rnacentral:lncRNA from 1 species
CGGAUAUUGAGAAAGUGUCACUUAUGUAUAACUCCAUAUCAGAAAUUUCCAUAGAUGUGCUGCCUACAAAAUGCCAACUGCUCACAACCUUGUUAUUGCAGAACAACCCUAUAAAGAAGAUCUCAAUUUCUUUCUUCACAAACAUGCCUUGUCUUAGUGUUCUCAAUUUGGCUUUUACAAAGAUCGAGAGUUUACCAAAUUCCAUCUCUGAACUAAAGAACCUCACAACAUUGUUGCUUCGUGGCUGUGAAGAAAUAAGAGAUCUGCCAUGUCUUUCGAUGCUUCAAGAAUUGAAGAAGUUGGAUCUUUCUGUGACUAAAAUUGAGGAAGUCCCUGAAGGAAUGGAUAUGCUGAUAAAGCUAAGAUAUCUUGAUCUUAGAGUGCGCACUCUGAAAGAGAUACCCGCUGGACUUUUACCAAAACUUGUUCACCUUCAGCACUUGAGUUUUGAAGUGGACAAUGAAAAAACAAGUCUAAAAGCAGAGGAGAUGGAACCAUUGAAGAAGUUGGAGUGCUUUACCGGACGUUUCGAAGACAUCGGUGAAUUGAAUAAGUUCAUCUCCUCAAUGCAACAAAGUAAGAAAAAUCUCAUAAAGUAUUAUUUACAGGUGGGCUCAUCUCUUAUGGGUAGUACAACAGAUAAAGUAGUAACAAUUGGAGGAGUCCAGAAUUGGGAAGGUGAGUUAAUUAUGCACCCAAUUGAAAUUCAAGAGUUGAUUAUUUUAAGGUGCGACUAUUUGAGAAACUUAGUCGAUGAUAAUUCUUCCUUCAAAAAUGCGAUUGACUUGAGGAUUUGUAGUAUUUGGGGGUGUAAAGGGAUAGAGUGUGUUGUUCCCUUGUCCUCUUUUGCCUCUUCUUCCGCUCAUCCAUUUCAGAGCCUCGAGGUGUUGAAUCUUCAAUGGCUGCCAAAGUUGAGUGCCCUUAUUAUGAAUGAUGAAGGAAUUGGUUCAGCAACAACAUCAACAUUGGUUCCGUCUGCCACCUUUUCCCAUCUUAAAAAAUUACGAUAGUGAACUGCUCAAGUAUGAAGACGUUGCUUCCAAACCUCCAAAACCUGGAAGAUAUACACGUGGUGGCUUGUAUACAGCUAGUAGAAAUAUUGGGAGGUGAAACAUCAGAAGUUGAAGAAAAAGGGAGUGAUGCAUUAAUCAAAUUCCUUCUUCCCAAAUUGAGAGUGUUGUCAUUCUCCGAAUUACCAAAUUUGAAGAGCAUAUGCAGCAAAAGUGGAGUGAUGGUUUGUGAUUCUCUCCAAGUUAUCGAAGUUCAUGUAUAUUGCAAUAAACUGAAGAGAAUUCCUCCAUUUGUUCCCCUUGUUGGCAAUGGGUAGCCAUUUGCAUAUGCUCCACCUUCUCUUACCAUCAGGUCAAGCACAGAAUGGUGGGAAUGGUUGGAGUGGGAUGACCAUCCAAACUUUAAAAAUGUUCUUAGCUUCAUCCCCUUUUGAAGCUUUUAAGGUAUGAACCAUUUAUAGCUUAGUUUAUUUUAUAAAUCUAAUUUCUCCAUUUUACUACCAUUUCAUGUCUUAUUUUAUUUUUGUUUGAAGAUGAUGCUGCCUCCAUUGCCGCCAAAGAAGUAUAAGAGAGUAGCAGGGCGGAGGAUGGUGCAAAAAAGGUGGGAAUAAAAGGAAUGAUGGAGCAUUGAGGAAUUGAGCAGCCACCAUUAUAAUUGACUCCUUUUCCAUUUUAUUUGUUUUAAAAUAAAUGUACUUCCCGAAGUAACUUUCUAAAUAAUUCAAUUAUAGGGUUAUUUUAGUAUCACGUAGAAUCAAAUAUUAUUUUAAAAAAUCUUUAUAUGUUCUUAAGCAAAUAUGUUGUUUUUAAAAUUAUUUCUUUAAAAUCUUUAAUCUUCUAUCAAUCAUUUAUGUAUUUAUUAUUUAUUUUCAAAUUAAAUAAUAAAUAACAAAUAUUAUUUUCAUAAAAUAACAAAUAUUAUUUUCAUAAAAGAAAAAGUAAUAAAACUUUGUGGAACCUACCACUGACUUCAUAAUUUCCCUCUUUUUAUCUUCACUUUCUUCUUAUUUCUUAUCCACUGCUUUUAAUUUGUUUCGAUGUCACAAAUUUUGAAGCAUCCAGCCAAGGUAAUUUUCUUUCAUUUGCUUAAUUCAUCACAUGCUUUUCUUUGCUUUUGAUUAUCUGCUACUGUUAUAGCAGCUAGCUUUGUAAGAUUGUCAAGGAACUCAACUUCACUGCUUCAUUUUCCGUUCUACUCUCUCAACACUUUUCAGCCACUAAGUCAGGUAAUAAGAUCUGAAGCUAUGAUUUCCUCUACUGAUUAUCAACAGUUUUAGAUUUUAAGAGUGGAUGACCAGCAGACAUAAUCUACUAUAGAUAGAAAUUAAUACAAAAAGAGCUACCCAGAAGCAAUAUAAUGUUGAACAUUUUACCUUUUCAUAUUCGGUAAUGAACUCUUGCACACUUGAAUCUAGCAUUUUAUAAUACAUUGAGAGCUUGAUUCUGGUGACCAGAAUUUCAUCAUGUUUCUGUCUGCCACCCAUCCAUAGCUCCAUCUAAUAAACGCCAUUGCUUGAAACUUGCAUUCAUGUUUCCUUUUCAUGCUUACACAGACAUAUCAAUACUUCAUCCAAUACAUUCGCAGAUUUUCAUUCUCUUCUACUGUUAUAUAUGAUUGCAUUGCAGGGACAUAGCAAUGCAAUACGUAGAGCAUGUUGUCACCAUUGCAAAUUGUCUCGGAAUUCCUGUUUGUAAAUAUUUGCAAUAUCACAGAGAGCUGAACGAUUAUGUGAGAAACUUCAAGAGGAUCAGAGAUGAAUUGAAUUGCAAAAUGGAAGAUAUAAAGCUGCAAUUGAAAGCAGAGCUUCUUCGUCCUCUGGGGAAGAUACCAAAGUAGGAAGUUGAAAAUUGGUUGAAAGCUGUGAAAAAGAUGAUUAGGAAAGCACAAGUUGUUGAAAACAAAGUCAGUAACGGGGGAUAUCUCUGUCGUGCUUGCAACGGGAAGCUGGUUGAUGAAAAGACUCAAGAAAUGAAGGAAUUUCUUAAUAACGCUCCUAAUGCCUCUGAAGGUCUUGCCAUGGAUGGUCCAAGUGCUGGGUUUCCACUGCCAACAUCAGAACUAGUUGGAGAAGAAGCUGUCAGAAAUGAUAUUUGGUCAUGUUUGAUGCAGGAGGAGGAGGGCAAGAUUGGGGUUUGGGGGAUGGGCGGUGUGGGUAAAACCACUAUCAUGAAGCACAUCCACAAUGAUCUUUUGAAAGAACAAAGAUUCGAAAGGGUAAUCUGGGUUACCAUAUCAAAGGAGUUCAAUGUAAUGAAGGUACAAGAUAAUAUUGCAAGUGCGUUGAAGUCGAAGGAAUAUUUAGACAAAGAAGAGGACAAGCUCAGACGAGCUGCAAUCUUGUCAGAAAUACUGAAGAAAGUAGGAAAGCAUGUUCUAAUCCUAGAUGAUGUGUGGGAUAAAGUCUCUCUAGAGGAAGUUGGGAUCCCUGAGCCGAGUGGCAGCAAUGGCUGCAAGUUGGUGUUGACAACCAGUUCGGAGCAUGUCUGUAAGUAUAUGGGUUGUAAGGUGAUAAAAGUGAAGCCCCUUUCAGAAGAAGAGGCAUUGAUACUAUUCUUGAAUAAAGUUGGACCUAACAUAGUUCAAAGUCCAACUAUAAUGCCUACUUUGAAGCUUGUUGUCAAGGAAUGUGCGGGUCUACCUCUUACAAUUGUCGUCAUAGCUAGUACAUUGAAAGGAGAAGACGACCCUCUUAUUUGGAAAAACGCACUCAGGGAAUUGGAAGAGAGAAUAGAAACAGUGGAAGGAGUGGAAGCUCAAGUGAUAGAGCGUUUGAAAAUUAGCUUCGAUCACUUAAAGGACGAGAAAGUGAAAUAUUGUUUUUUACAUUGCGCAUUAUAUCCCGAAGAUUUUGAAAUUGAAAAGGAUGAACUAAUUGAGAGCUGGAUUGAGGAGGGAUUCAUAGAUGAUAUGGGUACAAGACAAGAAAUGAUAUGCAAGGGCCAUGUUAUUUUGAAGAAGUUGGAAGAUAAUUGCUUGUUGGAAAAUGUCUCGAGUGAAAGAGUGAAGAUGCAUGAUGCAGUGAGAGAGAUGGCAUUGUCGAUCACAAUAAUGAAUCCUCGAUAUAUGAUACAAGCAGGUUUGCAAUUAGAAGAGUUACCAGAAAAGGAGCAAUGGAGUCCGGAUAUUGAGAAAGUGUCACUUAUGCAUAACUCCAUAUCAGAAGUUUCCAUAGAUGUGCUGCCCACAAAAUGCCAACUGCUCACAACCUUGUUAUUGCAGCAUAACCCUAUAAAGAAGAUCCCAUAUUCUUUCUUCAUAAACAUUCCCUGUCUUUGUGUCCUCAAUUUGUCCUUGACAAAGAUCGAGAGUUUACCAAAUUCCAUCUCUGAACUAAAGAACCUCACAACAUUGUUGCUUCGUGACUGUUAUGAAUUAAGAGAUCUGCCAUGUCUUUCGAUGCUUCAAGAAUUGAAGAAGUUAGACCUUUCUGGGACAAAAAUUGAGGAAGUUCCUGACGGAAUGGAUAUGUGUUGAGCAUUGGCCUGCAAUGUAACAAACUUCCAGCAGCAGCAGACCAGCUUUAGAAUCGAAUAGGAGCUGCUUGUUUCAUUUUGUUUAUUUUGAUUUUUUUUGUAAAGCAAUCAAGUUGACAUGUAACUUGAUUUCUAGAGUUAGUAAGAUAUGAAAAUGAUGGAUGUAAUAGCUGAUUUAUUUUCAGCUUUUGACUUGUAUUAUUUUAGUUGGCAACUUGCCAAAUUUGGUGGGAGUAGUUACGUUUAGGUAACUGACUUGCUUUUGUAACUCAUAUAUAUUUUGAAAUGGAAAUGAAAGCAAUAUAUGGGACUUUUCUCAUUCGGUUACUUGCUGCUUCUCUUUGGAUUUUCAGUUUGUUCUUUUUGUUUUGUUUUGCUGCUAAUGAGCUUUAGUCUUGGCUAUUUAAAUUUUGCUUAGUUGCUGCUGUUUUUUCUAACAAAUGGUAAUCAGAGCCUCUUGUCUUUGAGGACCUCUGUUGUUUAAGUUUUUUUUUGUUUCAAAAUAAACUCAAAAAUCGUGUUUGUCAAACUAGUUUCAGCAACAUGAGCUUUGCACCUCCUCCACCACCAGUUUUUGCUGGAGAAAACUACCACAUUUGGGUAGUUAAAAUGAAAACUUACCUCCAAGCACUUGAUCUGUGGAGUGCAGUUGAAAAUGACGUCGAACCACCACCAUUGAGAGCAAAUCCAACCAUUGCUCAGAUCAGGCAACAUGGUGAGGAGCGAGCCAAGAAGCAUAAAGCCAUGGCCUGCCUACAGAAUGGAGUGUCUGAUGUGAUUUUUACUCGCAUCAUGGCUUGUGACUCACCCAAACAAGCAUGGGAUAGGCUGAAAGAGGAGUUCAUGGGAUCGGACAAGACAAGGCAGCAACAAGUAAUUAAUCUUAGAAGGGAGUUUGAAAAUUUGAAGAUGAAGGAGUCAGAAACUAUCAAGCAAUAUUCUGAUAGGAUUAUGGCUACUGCAAUAAUAUUAGACUCCUUGGAGAAGAUUUCAGUGACAGUAGGGUUGUUGAGAAGGUUAUUACCACCUUACCUGAAAGGUUUGAGUCAAAAAUCUCCUCAUUGGAGGACUCGAGAGAUCUCACAACCAUUUCUUUGUCUGAGUUGGUUAACUCACUCUAUGCACUUGAGCAGAGAAGAGCAAGUAGGUAGGAGGAGAGUCCUGAAGGUGCCUUUCAAGAAAAGGUCAGAGAAGGCUCCAGCUCAAGUCAGAAAGCUAAGAAGCCUUGGUUUGAAAAGAGGGAAAGAUCAAAGAAAGAUACCGGUAGAAGGAGGUUUCCACCAUGCGUUCACUGCAAGAAGACUAAUCAUUUGGAGAAGUAUUGCUGGACCAGACCAGACAUACAGUGCAAAAGCUGUAAGAAGUAUGGCCAUCAUGAGAAAAUCUGUAGAAGUCAUGAGAAGGCACAAGCACAGCCAGUACAAGCCAAGUCUGCCGAGGAUGUCCAAGCUCAGGAGGAGCAUGUAUUUACAGCUUCAUGUUUUGCAGCUAACAGCAAGAGCAGUUGGCUUGUGGAUAGUGGCUGCUCACAUCACAUGGCAUCAGAUGAGAGCCUUUUCAAGAACCUUGACAGGAGCUAUGUCUCGAAGGUCAGGAUAGGCAAUGGCAACUUGAUUGAAGCAAAAGGCAGAGGUGAUGUGGUGAUUCACACUGGUUCAGGUAACAAAAUCAUUUCUGAUGUGCUCUAUGUGCCAGAAAUAGACCAAAAUUUACUCAGUGUAGGCCAGCUAGUCAAGAAAGGCUUUUCACUAGUUUUCAAGAAUGAUUCUUGUGUUAUAAGUGAUGCUCAUGGUAGGGAGAUUGUCUCAGCACCUAUGGGAGACAAAUGUUUUAUGCUGGAUGUGAGUCAGCUUGAGAAAAGUGCCUAUACAAGCUCAGUUGACAAUACUGAUCUUUGGCACAAGAGGUUUGGCCAUGUUAACCUCAAAUCACUUGAUUUGCUGCACAAAAUGAACAUGACAGAGGACAUGGUGAAGGUUAGUGCAAGUGAAGGUGUUUGUGAGGUGUGUCAGCUUGGCAAACAAGCCAGGUUGCCCUUUUCAGCUAACCAAGCAUGGAGGGCUCGAGAAAGACUUGAGUUGGUGCACUCAGAUGUCUGUGGACCAAUGAAGACCCCUUCACUGAAUGGCAGUAAGUAUUUUAUACUGUUUAUUGAUGAUCUGACCAGAUUUUGCUGGGUUUAUUUCAUGAAACAGAAGUCAGAAGUGUUUGAAGUUUUUGGAAAGUUCAAGGCAUUGGCAGAAAAUCAAACAGGCUGCAGGAUUAAGGCUUUGAGGAUAGACAAUGGUUCUGAAUACUUGUCUGAAAGAUUUCAGAAGCUAUGUGAGCAGGCUGGGAUUCAUCAUCAGUUAACCACAGUGUACACUCCUCAGCAAAAUGGAGCGUGUGAGAGGAAGAACAGAACAGUGAUGAACAUGACCAGGUAUUUGUUGUUUCAAAGCAAGCUUCCAAGUAUUUUUUGGGCUGAAGGUGUCAACACCUCAGUGUACCUGCUCAAUAGGCUGCCAACACAUGCUGUGAAUGAUAAAACUCCUUUUGAAGCAUGGUAUGAUCUUAAACCAACUGUUUCCCAUUUAAAAGUAUUUGGUUGCAUGUGUUUUGUACUUGUCCCUGUAGAAAGAAGAACCAAGCUCGAGAAGAGGUCAGUUCCAGGUAUAUUUGUUGGCUACAGUAGCUGCAAGAAGGGCUACAGAGUAUUUGAUCCUUCAACCAAGAAGAUUUUGGUAAGCAGGGAUGUCAAAUUCGAGGAAGGAAGGUUUUGGAGUCUAGAUGGCUCUAACACAAGUCAGUUUGAAGAAGAGCAGAUUGACAGCAAUCUGGAAUUGGCAGAAAAUGAAGUCAGUAAUGCCAAUGUAGAUGAUGCUCCUGUGAGAGGGACCAGGUCUAUUGCUGAUAUCUACCAAAGAUGCAAUGUGGCCAUUGUUGAGCCUUCAAGCUAUGAAGAAGCUGCACGAAGCAAGAGUUGGAAGAAGGCUAUGGAGGCUGAAAUCGACAUGAUCCAUAAGAAUGACACUUGGGAUCUGGUAGACAGACCUGAUCAGAAGAAGGUCAUAGGUGUCAAGUGGGUUUUCAGGACCAAAUUCAAUGCUGAUGGCUCUUUGAACAAACACAAGGCAAGGCUUGUGGUGAAAGGGUACAAUCAACAGUUUGGCAUUGAUUUUGAGGAGACAUUUGCUCCAGUAGCAAGGCUGGACACCAUAAAGCUCCUGUUUGCUUUGGCUGCACAAAAACAGUGGAAGGUCCAUCAACUUGAUGUCAAGUCAGCUUUCCUGAAUGGCUUCCUUAAAGAGGAAAUUUAUGUUGAACAGCCUGAUGGAUUUAAAGUCCAAGGAAAGGAAGACAAGGUUUACAAGCUGAAGAAGGCACUCUAUGGACUAAAACAGGCUCCUCGAGCCUGGUAUGACAGGAUAGAUGCUUACCUGUCUAGGCUCAAUUUCGAGAAAAGUUUGAGUGAGCCAACUUUGUUUAUAAAGAAGUCCAAAGAUGAGACUUUGCUGAUUGUCUCAAUAUAUGUGGAUGAUCUAUUAGUGACUGGAAGUAAGGUCGAUUUGAUUCAGGAGUUCAAGAAGAAUAUGCAAGACAUGUUUGACAUGACAGACUUGGGAAUCAUGACUUACUUCCUUGGUAUGGAAGUAGACCAGUCUGAUCAAGGCAUUUUUAUCAGCCAGCAUGCAUUUGCCUUGAAAAUUCUCACUAAGUUUCAUAUGGAAAACUGCAAACCAGUGAGCACACCAUUAGCUGUGGGAGAGAAACUAAGCAGCUUUGGAAAUGAAGAAAAGGUAGAUGAAAAUGAGUAUAGAAGCUUGAUUGGUUGUUUACUUUACUUGACAGCAACCAGACCUGAUCUUAUGCAUUCAGUAAGUCUAUUGUCUAGAUUCAUGCACAGCUGCAAUACAACUCAUUUGAAAGCAGCAAAGAGAAUACUCAAGUAUGUCAAAGGUACUUUGAAGUUUGGUGUAAUGUUCAAGAAAGGAAGUGAGCUGAAAUUAGCUGGCUACUCAGAUAGUGACUGGGGUGGAUCAGUUGAUGAUAUGAGAAGUACUUCAGGCUACUUCUUUACACUUGGUUCGGGAGUUUUCAGUUGGAGUUCAAAGAAGCAACAAACUGUUGCUCAGUCUACUGCUGAAGCCGAAUACAUAGCAGCAGCUGCAGCAGUGAAUCAAGCCAUUUGGCUUAGGAAGUUGCUAUGUGAUUUGAAUGAAGAACAGCUUGAGCCAACUGAAAUUAUGGUGGAUAACCAGUCAGCAGUUGCCAUCUCCAAAAAUCCUGUUUUUCAUGGCAAAACCAAACAUUUUAAGCUCAAGUUUUACUUUGUUCGAGAAGUUGUUCAAUCCAAAGAAGUGUGUCUAACACAUUGCAGCUCACAAGAUCAAUUGGCUGACAUUUUGACAAAGCCUCUUGGCACAAUCAGGUUUGAAUUUCUAAGGGAUUCAAUCGGUGUUUGUUGCCUACAGUCCAAGGAGGAGUGUUGAGCAUUGGCCUGCAAUGCAACAAACUUCCAGCAGCAGCAGACCAGCUUUAGAAUCGAAUAGGAGCUGCUUGUUUCAUUUUGUUUAUUUUGAUUUUUUUUGUAAAGCAAUCAAGUUGACAUGUAACUUGAUUUCUAGAGUUAGUAAGAUAUGAAAAUGAUGGAUGUAAUAGCUGAUUUAUUUUCAGCUUUUGACUUGUAUUAUUUUAGUUGGCAACUUGCCAAAUUUGGUGGGAGUAGUUACGUUUAGGUAACUGACUUGCUUUUGUAACUCAUAUAUAUUUUGAAAUGGAAAUGAAAGUAAUAUAUGGGACUUUUCUCAUUCGGUUACUUGCUGCUUCUCUUUGGAUUUUCAGUUUGUUCUUUUUGUUUUGUUUUGCUGCUAAUGAGCUUUAGUCUUGGCUGUUUAAAUUUUGCUUAGUUGCUGCUGUUUUUUCUAACAAUAUGCUGAUAAAGCUAAGAUAUCUUGAUCUUAGAGUGCACACUCUGAAAGAGAUACCCGCUGGACUUUUACCAAAACUCGUUCACCUUCAGCACUUGAGUUUUGAAGUGGACAAUGAAAAAACAAGUCUAAAAGCAGAGGAGAUGGAACCAUUGAAGAAGUUGGAGUGCUUUACCGGAAGUUUCGAAGACAUCAAUGAAUUGAAUAAGUUCAUCUCCUCAAUGCAACAAAGUAAGAAAAAUCUCAUCAAGUACUAUUUAGUGGUGGGCUCAUCUUUUAUGACUGUUGAAAGAGAUAAAACAGUAACAAUUAGAGGAGUCCAGAAUUGGGAAGGUGAGUUAAUUAUGCACCCAAUUGAAAUUCAAGAGUUGAUUAUUUUAAGGUGCGACUAUUUGAGAAACUUAGUCGAUGAUAAUUCUUCCUUCAAAAAUGCGAUUGACUUGAGGAUUUGUAGUAUUUGGGGGUGUAAAGGGAUAGAGUGUGUUGUUCCCUUGUCCUCUUUUGCCUCUUCUUCCGCUCAUCCAUUUCAGAGCCUCGAGGUGUUGAAUCUUCAAUGGCUGCCAAAGUUGAGUGCCCUUAUUAUGAAUGAUGAAGGAAUUGGUUCAGCAACAACAUCAACAUUGGUUCCGUCUGCCACCUUUUCCCAUCUUAAAAAAAUUACGAUAGUGAACUGCUCAAGUAUGAAGACGUUGCUUCCAAACCUCCAAAACCUGGAAGAUAUACACGUGGUGGCUUGUAUACAGCUAGUAGAAAUAUUGGGAGGUGAAACAUCAGAAGUUGAAGAAAAAGGGAGUGAUGCAUUAAUCAAAUUCCUUCUUCCCAAAUUGAGAGUGUUGUCAUUCUCCGAAUUACCAAAUUUGAAGAGCAUAUGCAGCAAAAGUGGAGUGAUGGUUUGCGAUUCUCUCCAACUUGUCCAUGUUUUGGGAGGUUGUAAUAAACUGAAGAGAAUUCCUCCAUUUGUUCCCCUUGUUGGCAAUGGGCAGCCAUUUGCAUAUGCUCCACCUUCUCUUACCAUCAAGUCAUGGGAAGAAUGGUGGGAAUCGUUGGAGUGGGAUGACGAUCGAAACUUUAAAAAUGUUCUUCGCUUCAGCCCCUUUGGAAGCUUUUAAGGUAUGAACCAUUUAUAACUUAGUUUAUUUUAUAAAUCUAAUUUCUCCAUUUUAAUACCAUUUCAUGUUAUAUUUUAUUUUUGUUUGAAGAUGAUGUGGCCUCCAUUGGUGCAUAAAGAUGCAUGAUGUAGUGAGAGACAUGGAGUUGUCGAUGAUGAUGUGGCCUCCAUUGGUGCGAAAGAAGUAGAAGAGAGUAGGAGGGCGGAGGAUGGUGCAAAAAAGGUGGGAAUAAAAGGAAUGAUGGAGCAUUGAGGAAUUGAGCAGCCACCAUUAUAAUUGACUCCAUUUCCAUUUUAUUUGUUUUAAAAUAAAUGUACUUCCCGAAGUAACUUUCUAAAUAAUUCAAUUAUAGGGUUAUUUUAGUAUCACGUAGAAUCAAAUAUUAUUUAAAAAAAUCUUUAUAUGUUCUUAAGCAAAUAUGUUGUUUUUAAAAUUAUUUCUUUAAAAUCUUUAAUCUUCUAUCAAUCAUUUAUGUAUUUAUUAUUUAUUUUCAAAUUAAAUAAUAAAUAACAAAUAUUAUUUUCAUAAAAUAACAAAUAUUAUUUUCAUAAAAUAACAAAUAUAUGAUACAAGCAGGUUUGCAAUUAGAAGAGUUACCAGAAAAGGAGCAAUGGAGUCCGGAUAUUGAGAAAGUGUCACUUAUGUAUAACUCCAUAUCAGAAAUUUUCAUAGAUGUGCUACCCACAAAAUGCCAACUGCUCACAACCUUGUUAUUGCAGCACAACCUUAUAAAGAAGAUCCCAUAUUCUUUCUUCACAAACAUGCCUUGUCUUCGUGUUCUCAAUUUGUCCUUCACAAGGAUCGAGAGUUUACCAAAUUCCAUCUCUGAACUAAAGAACCUCACAACAUUGUUGCUUGUUGGCUGUAAUGAAUUAAGAGAUCUGCCAUGUCUUUCGAUGCUUCAAGAAUUGAAGAAGUUGGUUCUUGCUGGGACUAAAAUUGAGGAAGUCCCGGACGGAAUGGAUAUGUUGAUAAAGCUAAGAUAUCUUGAUCUUCAAGUGCUCACUCUGAAAGAGAUACCCGCUGGACUUUUACCAAAACUCGUUCACCUUCAGCACUUGAGUUUUGAUGUGGGCAAUGAAAUAAGUCUAAAAGCAGAGGAGGUGAAACCGUUGAAGAAGCUGGAGUGCUUUACCGGACGUUUCGAAGAAAUCGAUGAAUUCAAUAAGUUCAUCUCCUCAAUGCAACAAAGUAAGAAAAAUCUCAUCAAGUACCAUUUACAGGUGGGCUUAUCUUUUUUGAUUUCUACAAGAGAUAAAACAGUAACAAUUAGAGGAGUCCAGAAUUGGGAAGGUGAGUUAAUUAUGCACCCAAUUGAAAUUCAAGAGUUGAAUAUUUCAGAGUGCGACUAUUUGAGAAGCUUAGUCGAUGAUGACUGUAAAGGGAUAGAGUGUGUUGUUUCCUUGUCCUCUUUUGCCUCUUCUUCCGCUCAUGCAUUUCAGAGCUUCGAGAUGUUGACUCUUCGUGAUCUGCCAAAGUUGAGUGCCCUUAUUAUGAAAGAUGAAGGAAUUGGUUCAGCAACAACAUCAACAUUGGCUCCGUCUACCACAUUUUCUCAUCUUAAGGAAAUUACGAUAGUGAACUGCUCAAGUAUGAAGACGUUGCUUCCAAACCUCCAAAACCUGGAAGAUAUACACGUGGUGGCUUGUAUACAGCUAGUAGAAAUAUUGGGAGGUGAAACAUCAGAAGUUGAAGAAAAAGGGAGUGAUGCAUUAAUCAAAUUCCUUCUUCCCAAAUUGAGAGUGUUGUCAUUCUCCGAAUUACCAAAUUUGAAGAGCAUAUGCAGCAAAAGUGGAGUGAUGGUUUGUGAUUCUCUCCAAGUUAUCGAAGUUCAUGUAUAUUGCAAUAAACUGAAGAGAAUUCCUCCAUUUGUUCCCCUUGUUGGCAAUGGGUAGCCAUUUGCAUAUGCUCCACCUUCUCUUACCAUCAGGUCAAGCACAGAAUGGUGGGAAUGGUUGGAGUGGGAUGACCAUCCAAACUUUAAAAAUGUUCUUAGCUUCAUCCCCUUUUGAAGCUUUUAAGGUAUGAACCAUUUAUAGCUUAGUUUAUUUUAUAAAUCUAAUUUCUCCAUUUUACUACCAUUUCAUGUCUUAUUUUAUUUUUGUUUGAAGAUGAUGCUGCCUCCAUUGCCGCCAAAGAAGUAUAAGAGAGUAGCAGGGCGGAGGAUGGUGCAAAAAAGGUGGGAAUAAAAGGAAUGAUGGAGCAUUGAGGAAUUGAGCAGCCACCAUUAUAAUUGACUCCAUUUCCAUUUUAUUUGUUUUAAAAUAAAUGUACUUCCCGAAGUAACUUUCUAAAUAAUUCAAUUAUAGGGUUAUUUUAGUAUCACGUAGAAUCAAAUAUUAUUUAAAAAAAUCUUUAUAUGUUCUUAAGCAAAUAUGUUGUUUUUAAAAUUAUUUCUUUAAAAUCUUUAAUCUUCUAUCAAUCAUUUAUGUAUUUAUUAUUUAUUUUCAAAUUAAAUAAUAAAUAACAAAUAUUAUUUUCAUAAAAUAACAAAUAUUAAACUAAAGCUCAAACAUAAGUCUAAAUUUCAAACUGCAUUAAUGUAACUCGUUAAUUAAAUUUUAAUAUUAUUUUCAUAAAAUAACAAAUAUUAUUUUAAAAAUAUUUUUAUUUUUUACAUACAAUUUUAAAAUAUAUAUAUACAUACAUCACAUCCUUUAAUACCUCAAUUCUAUUAUUUAAAACUAUACUACUCUUUUGCUUAUAUUAAUCUAUUGUUGCAAAUUUUAUCUCGUGGAUCAAACAAGCAAUCUUCUCAAAAUCUCAGGUAAAUAAUUAAACAGUGAUACUUGAAAUAAAAUAAUAAAAACACAAUUCAUUAGUUUUGGUGUAGUACAAACUCAAAUAAAACAAAAGGAUUAUAUAGAAGUUGUCACUAUCUUCUUUUAAAAUUACUUGAAUUUCCACAGGAGGGCUGUCAAACAUACGCAAAUCUUCAUCAUUCGUCAAGGACAUUUUUGCUAAUGCAUCCGUUAUCUAAUUGUUCUCUCUAAGUGUAUACCUCAAAAAUCACUUGUUUUCACCUGACAAAAUAUGUUGAAUUCUUCUAAUCAAUGAUGAACUCGAUUCGGCUGAUUGACUAUCACAAAGGGCUCCAACAAUCUCAACAUUAUCAGAUUGAAUGAUGACCUUAUCAUAUCCUUAUUUCUGAAGCAAAAGUAAACCAUCUAAGAUGUCCCAUAACUCGGUAUCAGAUACCAAACACUUCCCCAAGAACCGACUAUAACCCAAUAACCACUUCCCUGUUUCAUCCCAUACCACACCACCUGUGACAGAUAAACCAAUAGUUGUCUAAACAACACUAUCAAUAUUGAGGAAAAAAGAAUUUGCAAGUGAAAUGAAUCAAACUCAGGUCUCAAAGAUACUUACACUACUUCUUAACCACUAGGCCAUAACUCACUCUUUAAAAAUAACUUAUUUUGAUCCAUUAGAGAGCGCCCACAUUAUUUCUAAGAUGCCACUAUUUUCUUUAUUGAUAACCUAAGAUGCCACUUGAUAAAAAAUUUACUUUAUACAACUACAUCAUAGUUCAAUCAAACUUAAGAUCUCAAGUAAAUAAUAAAUAAUGAGGAUUAAAUAAAACAUAGAACUCCAUGUGUUGGUCUGAUGGUCAGAAUGUUCACCACUUAAGGUGUAAUUUGAGAUUGAGUCGUGCUAGUCGCGUUGCUGUUAGGGCUUUGCCCUCCUCUUAUAAAUCACAAAAAAAAAGCAUAGAAAACAAUGAGAAAACAUUUGAUACAGAGGCGAUCCCAUGCCAGCCCCACUAAAAUGAAAAAUUGCCAUUUAGGCUCUCUAAAUUUUUUUAAAUUUUAAAUUAAUAAAGGUAAAAUUACACUUUGGCCCCCUUAAAAUUAUAAAAAUUUGAUUUAAUCUUUUAAAAAUUAUAAAGAUAUAGACUAUAAAAAAAUUAAAAUUUCAUCCAGCCCUUAAAAAAUUGUUUUGGCUUCGCCUUGAUUUGAUAGGAGGGAAAGUAAUAUUUUUAAAAAAAAUAAUUAAUGGGAGAGUAAUAUUUAUAUUUAUCAACAAAUUUUCUAGGAAUAUGACUUUAAAUUAAGAAUUAAUUUUACUUAAACAUGAGAAUAUGAUUCCUUCCAAUAUAGGUGAAAAAAAUUACUUUUCAUGUAGUUGAUAAGUUGAAGUACACAUUUGGACAAAAAUUAUCCUUUUUAUUAUUUAUUACCGUCACUGGUUUUGCUUUCAUGGUUAGUUUUCACUAUUUUCUCAUUAUUCUUUAGGAUAACUUACCUAGCUAGCCACUUAACUAUGGUUUUUUAAUUUUUUUAGUCACCUAAUUAUGAAAAGUUACAAAAUAGUCAUUCAAUUAUUAGUAUUUUUUUAUCACCAAAUUAUAAUAAGUUACAAAAAUGAUCAUUCAACUAUUCCAUUUUGUCUUUUUUGGUCACACAAUUAUAUUAGAUUUUGGGGUGUUUCCACUUUUACGUUGUUAGUUGGUGACCAAAAAAGACAAAAUUAAAUAGUUGGGUGACCAAAAAAGAGAAAAAAAUAAUAGUUGGGUGACAUUUAUUGUAGUUUACCCUUUUUUUAAUCUUUCAUGUUCAUUUUACUCCAUAUUUAGAGUUUGUGAUUCUCUUUUUCAAUCUAUAUAAUUUAAAAAUAAUAAAUAAAUAUAAGUUAGUUAAGUUUAUCAAUUCGAUUAUAAAUUUUAGUCAUCAGUACUCCACUGUCCAAAUCGACAAACUGAAUUAAUUAAAAUGAAUCAAAUCGUCAAUUAAGUGGAUUAAAUCAAUCAUAACUGAAUAAUACUCUUACCUAAUUUGCGUUAUUCACUACACCAAAACAGGGAUUUAGUUGCGCUUUUUUAGGCCUUCAGCGGCGCUUUGUCAUGCGCCGCAAAUAACGCCGCUAUUGAACGCGUCGUUAACUUUAGCGGCGUUUGUGAAUUGAGCGCCGCUAAAAGUCAAGCCCUUUAGCGGCGUUUGUGGCUUAAGCGCCGCUAAAGGUUAUUAUCUUUAGCAGCGCUUAAACCUAAAAUGCCGCUAAAGAGCUUGACCUUUAGCGGCGCUUUCACUAAAAACGCCACAAAAACAUUAGCCUAUAGCGGCACUUUAUUUACAAAUGCCACUAGAUACCUUGACCUUUAGCGGCGCUUUGACAACAAACGCCGCUAAAAACUCUGAUUUUUUAGCGGCGCUUUCACUACAAACGCCGCAAAUACAUUAGCCUAUAGCGGCGCUUUAUUUACAAACGCCACUAUAUAUGUUGACCUUUAGCGGCGCUUUGGGCACGAACGCCGCUAAAAGACCUUGACUUUUAGCGACGCUUUUCAUAAAAACGCCACUAAAUGCAUUAACCUUUAGCGGCAAUUUUCCCACAAACGCCGCUAAAUUGAGCAGCUUUAUAAAAGAAUAUUUUAUAUAUUUUUAUACCUCCUGUAACAAAAAAUCAGAAGAAACUAAAAUCUAAACCAAUCGAAAGCAAUAAAUCUAUAUAACAUUUAAAAUUAAAUGAAUAAUAUAUAAUAAAUUUCAAUAAAUGGAAUAAAAUUCAUAUUAUUAUUACAAAUAUGUUAAAAGGUAAAAUGAUAAUAUAAAGUUAAAAUGAUAAAAAAAUUUACACGAUAGUCUAAGACGACGGUGGUUGCGACUGUUGAAACAUCUUCAUCAUAUUCUGAAGCUGCUUCUGGAGUUCAUCGUACUUUCUAGUCUGCUCUGCUUCCCUCUUUGCCGCUUCUGCUUUUAGCUGUAUCUGGAGUUCUUCAUACUUCCGUUGAACCUCAGCUUCUCUCGCUGCUGCCUCCGCUUUAAGUUGUGUAAUUUGCUCAACUGUUGUCGCUUGCAUCUGAGCCAUCUGGUCUCUUAACCUCUGGACUUCAGCUUGAGCUUGACUCCCCGAAGGCAUGUAUUGUUGCGAGCUGGAUCCAAAAUAUUGGGUUGGGCUAACAAAAGAUCCUUGAAAUCGAACCCGACCGUACCUUUCAGGACCCAAAACAUCAGUGAUAAUACGAUUAUCAAUGUCUUCAAUAUGAACAGAACUAUCACUGGAAGCAAUCGCUUCGUACUCCGCUUUUUUAUCCUUUAGUUUAUCCUACAACAAUAAAUCACAUUGUUAGGAACACAAUAUUUAUUAAAAAAACAAAUGCAACAUAACUUAACAAAAUUUGCAUUACAAGAAAUGAAAUAAACCAUUAGAAAAUAUACACUGUAAAAUAUUAAAACAAGUCAAAUUGUAUUAAGCAAACGUACCAGAAUUUCUGCAGCUUCAGGAGUCAUAGGGUUCCCAUCUUUCUUCCUAUGUGUAAUGUCAAAAAGUUGAAGGCGUCCAACUUUCUGACCGGACGACAGUUCCUAUAAUACAGUAGUAAAAAUAUUAUUUGAUAGAAAGUAAUAAAAAUCUGACAGAAUUACAAAGUUCAAAAUACCUCAGAGUGAGCUACACAAGCAAAACUUUUGGACCCAGCUGUGUGAGUGAAUUUCUGUUUCUGCCUACUACAUUUUCCAACUCGUUCACGAUCCUACGUUAUGAAAUUAUUAGUACGUUGAUUAAUAAAUAAUAUAAACCAAAAUCAAGAUUGUUUUAGUAACACAUACCUCUCCUUUCUUCGAAGUCCAAAAUCUAACGACCUCUUCCCACUGAUACCUCAGCAUUCCCGGCGGGACAUUUUGUAAUCUCUCGUCCAGGGUUGUUUUUGUCUUAAAAUAGUCUUUCUUUAAUGUGCUCUUAUGGUCUCUUCAUCUUUUUCCCAAUACCUUUUUUACAUAAGCAUCAGAGACCUCUAGAGCAAAUCUCGCCUACAAAGAACAGAAGCUAAGAAAGUUAAUAUAAUUGAAACUUAAACCCAAGUAUUAUAAAUGACAUUAACGUUUUGUUACCUUAACGUUAUCAAGAGCUUGGUUCUUGUUACUAUCGGGCAUUUGUCGCCAUGUCUCGAAGUUAAUUGGUAACAUAUUUGCAUUCCGUGCUAGAAUGCCCAAGUAUCCUGCUAAAAGACGAGCUUCUGAUCCAACAGGCUGACCAAAGCUAUUACUGCAUACUUUGACACGCUCGGCUGGAUCUAGCUCGUAUAAAUCCCUCAGUAGCGUACGCCCUCGAACUCUUCGCGUCCCACCAUUUUCAACUGAAAAUUUUUAUAUUGUUAUAAGAAUUUUAAAAAUAAAUAAACAAGAAGUCAACAAGCAUUUAAAUUAAAUGUUAAAGUACUUUCAAUUUCUGUAGGUUCCUCAGGUGUAAUAGAAAUAUUCGAAGACCCAAUAGCAGUCUGUUGAUCAGUGCUGUUUGUUUCCGCAGAGUUUGGAGUACCUGGAACCAGGCUUAGCUGUCGCACUUUUCGUCGCCGCAUUUUAUCUGCAAUACAAAUGAAAUAUUUGAAAAGUUAGUUGAAAUAUACAAUAAGAUUAAUAUUUAUAUUAUGAUAUUACAUAUAAUUAAAUAAUCGUAAAAGCUUACUACAUUAUAAUUCGUAAUUAUCUUCAUCCGUAUCCUGGCGAACCCAUUGAAAUUGUGUACUAGUACUAGGGAUGUUUUCGUCUAAGUUUUGUUCUGGAAAGGGCAAAGUUUGUGUUCUGUCGUCAAUGCCAUCUCUACUUCCACUGCCCAUGUCAAACAAGUCUCUAGGGAUGUUACGGAGUACAACGUACCAACCCUCAUCAGUUGGAUCUUUUGAGUAAAAAACUUGUUUGACUUGAGAAGAAAAUACAUACGGCUCAUCAACCAACUGUUGUCCUGUGUGAAUUAAUCGAGCGAAGUUCACCAUUAUGAAACCAAAUUGAUCUUGCUUAAUUCCACGAGCAGUAUUAACAUCGGCCCAAUCACCUCGAAAUAAGACAACUUUCCAUUUGUCGUAGUAAUCCAACUCAAUUAUGUCAGUAAGAAGUCCGAAAUAUUCCACAUUUCCCUCGACCGGAUUAUUGUCCCUAGCACUAGCAUAACUUGUAAUUGAGGAAUUAACAACUAUUCCACAAUUUUGCGUUCUCCUCAAUCUCUCGCGAUAUUUUGUAUGAAAUCUGAAUCCGUUGAUGAGAAACGCAGUAUAUCUUUUAACCACCCGAUUUGGACCUUGAGAAAGCCAUUUAACUUCGUCGGAGACGUUCUUCCCACUCCAAACCUACUGAAUGGAAAGUAAACUGAGUUAUUAAAAAUGUUUUGAGCGAACAUUAUUAUUUGUCGAUGAAAGCUCCAAUUGCAUACCGUUUGGCUUAACCAUUCAUGGAAAGAUUCUGUGAACAACUUAUUGAUAUCCCGAUGUUGUGUUCUUCGAGAGCGCGAACGAGAUCUCAAUAUUUGUUUGUACUCACUAUGUUAGAAAUAUUUUUGAAAUUUAUUAGAAGAUAAACAAUUUUUGAUUGAUGAAUAUUUAUCAAAUUUCUAGAACUUACUUGCGUAAAGGUUCCAUUGAUUCGUGGUGAAACAGCACAUAUCGAUGUGCUUGUACCCACGAUAAAUCAUCUAAUUCUGUAAUUUCAACUUUACCGAGUUAUUGUCCAAAACUUUGGAACAAAUAAGUAUCGGCGAAGUGAUGAUCCGUGAGUCCAGUAUUUCUAUUUGGUCUGUUAAACCUUGUUUCAACACCUUCCAAAUAUCUUGAACAGAAAGUCAUACAUUCCUCCGCCAAGUAGCCUUCAGCAAUCGAUCCUUCUAGAUAACGCUUGUUGCGGCAGUAAGACUUCAAUUUGGAAAUGAACCUAAACACGAUAUACAAUAUUAUCAAAAUAUUUCUUUUGAAGGCAUAUAGGUGAAUGAAGGAAAAUUUUAAUCAUUUUAUUUAAGACCUUUCUAUGGGAUACAUCCAUCGAUAGAAAACGGGUCCGCCAAGAAUUGCUUCAUGCGGGAGAUGGAUUAUCAAGUGAACCAUAAUAGUCAAGAAGGAGGUGGGAAGAUUUUCUCCAAGUUACAUAAAGUCAACGCAGCUCGAUCUUGUACCUUCUGAAGUUCUUGAACAUCCAAAACUUUUCCACAAAUGGCUUUAAAAAUAUUCGAUAGUUCAAUUAUACAAGACGUCACAUUCUGCGACAUACAACGUCGUAGAGCAACUGGCAGUAAAUCUUGCAUCAAGAUGUGAUAGUCAUGUGAUUUUAGCGAAUACAGUCUUCGAUCUUUUACACAAACACAUCGAGAUAUAUUUGAUGCAUACGCAUCUGGAACCUUUAUAUCCUUCAACACCAUGCAGAACACUUCUUUCUCCAUCUUCGACAUCGAAAAAAUAGAAGGCGGCAACCGAUAUUUCCCAUUCGGAAGUGGAUUGGGAUGAAGAUCAGGCCGAAUGCCGAUUUGGACUAAAUCAAGUCGACUCUGAAUAUUGUCUUUUGAUUUUCUGUCGACAUUUAAAAUUGUACUCACAAUGUUCUCACAGACAUUUUUCUCAAUGUGCAUAACAUCAAGAUUGUGUCGUACAAUGUGAUGCUCCCAAUAAGGCAACUCAAAAAAAAUACUUCUUUUUUUCCACAAGUCCGUCUCAUUAGGAUCGUCCUCUUCAUCUGACUCAUCAUCAGCUUGAUCAUUUGAUCUUCUAUUUCUUUGCGUGUUUGGCGGUUGGUUCGUCUUCCCAUAAGUGAAAUUCAUAUGUUCCAACAUGAACAAGAUUUCAGAGCCAGUGGUCUGCAAAGGAGCUUCUCUAAACUCUUUAGUACCGUCAAAUACAGAACUCUGAAAUCUAAAUCUAUGAUUUUCCGAUAACCACCGGCGAUGCCCCAUGUAAGAGAACUUCUUCCCAUUAUACAAUCAUUGCGAACAUGUUUGUGCAGCACAACAAGGACACGCAUAACGACCCUUGGUACUCCAACCGGAUAAAUUGGCAUAAGCGGGGAAGUCAUUAAUGGUCCACAUCAAAGCUGCACGUAAAUUAAAGUUCUCCUUUCUUAGCACAUCGUAUGUCUCAACACCGGCUCAUAAUUGAUUUAACUCUUCAAUAAGUGGCUGUAAAUAAAUGUCGAUAUCAUUCCCGGGCCCUUUCUCUCCAGGGAUAAUCAUAGAUAAGAUAAGGGAAGAUUGCUUCAUGCACAUCCACGGAGGCAGAUUGUAAGGAAUAAGCACCACUGGCCAAGUACUGUACGCAGUGCUCAUAAUCUUGUAAGGAUUGAAGCCGUCGGAUGCUAGCCCAAGCCUCACAUUCUUAGGAUCGCUUGCAAAGCUUGGAAAUUUAUUGUCAAAUGAUUUCCACGCUAAAGAAUCUGCCGGAUGUCUUAGUAAUCCAUCAUCGGUUCGUCCAUCUUUGUGCCACGUCAUUGACUCCGCUGUUUUCGAUGACAUGAAAAGCCUUUGAAGUCUUGGUAUCAACGGAAAAUACCGUAAAAUCUUGACUGGCUUCUUUCUUGACUGUGCAUCAUUUUCAUCAUCGUUCCCAUCUUCUGUGUUUCUAUUUAUCCAACGGGAUUCGCCGCAUACGUGGCAGCACUGUUGGUAUUUUCGAUCGCCCCAGUACAACAUGCAGUCAUUCGGGCAACUAUGGAUUUUGUUGUACCCAAGGCCUAAAUCUUUAAUCAUUUUCUUCAUAUCUUUGCAUGAUUGAGGGAUUUUUGCAAACGGAAACAUUUCUGUCAAAAACUCUAACAGCAUUGUCAAUGAGUUUCCAGUCCAUCCUCCUAAACAUUUUAAAUGAAAAAGACGAACGCAGAAGGACAUUUUUGAAAAUUUCAAUCCCUCAUACAGUUCUUUGUUCAUGUCAUUAAGUAGCGCGUAGAAAUUCGCCGCUUCUCCAUUCAGCUCUUCAGGAGGUACAGUUGUUCCCGAUUCGAUAAAAUUAUUUCCAUGAAUAUUACAAUCACCAGAUGGCACAAAGUCGGAUGGGAUCGACGGCAUAUGCUGACUGUUAAUAUUAAAUGCAUCCCGCAACAUACAUUCCAUGUCAUCCCCUCCAACAGACUGAUGGUAAGCAAUACCAGGAUAAGAUACAUCCAUCGUUGAAGAGGAGGUACUAGCCGGGCAUUCUCCAUGAAAAAGCCAUUUUUUAUAACCCCGAACAAACCCAUCGACAACUAGAUGCUCGUACACAACUUCACGAUAAUGCCAGUUUGUGUUGACACAGUUGUUACAAGGGCAAAGAAUCAUGUUCUCUUGGCUUGCAUGUUCAAAUGCAAAAUUAAGAAAAGACUGUACUCCAUUUCGAUAACCGUUGCUUAACCUUGACAAUUUCAUCCAAGAACGGUCCAUUUCUAAAUUCUUGAAGUCUGAUUUCCACCAUAAAUUACAACGGUAAGUUGGUCAGUUACAAGUAUAUAUGAGUUAUGUAAGUUAUGUAUUACGUAAGUUAUUUAGUUAUGUGAGUUACGUAUAAUAUUAUGUAACGUAUUAUGUUAUUAUGUAAGUUAUGUAUUAUGUAAGUUAUGUAAGUUAUGUAAAUUAAAUAUUAUAUAAGUUAUGCAAGUCCGACAAGUUAAAUGUAUAAUCACUACACCAAAACAGGCUUUUAGCGACGCUUUUUUAGGCUUUUAGCAGCGCUUUUUAGCGCCACAAAUACUUUUAGCGGCGCUUUCGAAAGCGCCGCAAGAAACUCCGCUAAUGACAGCGUCGCUAACUUUAGCGGCGUUUUUAUAAAUAAACGCCGCUAAAGAUCAUGACCUUUAGCGGCGCAUUUCUCACAAACGCCGCUAAAGAACAAGACCUUUAGCGGCGCUUUAACCACAAACGCCGCUAAAGACCAAGACCUUUAGCGGCGCUUUAACCACAAACGCCGCUAAAGACCAAGACCUUUAGCGGCGCUUUAACCACAAACGCCGCUAAAGACCAAGACCUUUAGCGGCGCUUUUCUCACAAACGCCGCUAAAGACCAUGAGCUUUAGCGGCGCUUUUCCCACAAACGCCGCUAUAGAACAUGAGCUUUAGCGACGCUUUUAUCACAAACGCCGCUAAAAGUACAACUCUUUAGCGGCUUUUAUAGAAAAACGCCACUAAUUUUGACAAAUUUGUAACACCCGAUUUUCAUCCAUAUACAAUCCUUCCUAUAACAUAAAAUCCAACCAAAAACAACAAAUUUAAAUGAUACUUCAAAUUCAAUGAAAGAUAAAUGAUAUAAAUUGAUAACUGAAUUAUAAUUCAAAAUAUUCUUACAAUAACUAAAGCACACUAAAAUGUUUACACAAUCACCUCCCAGAAACAGGGGCAGCAAUAACCACAAGAACAAAAAAAAAAGAAAAAUUACAACAUACUUGAAAGAAGAAAUUUCAGCCUCUGUGUUCUCCAAUUGCCUCUCCAAUUUUAGCUCAUUCGACCUUAAUCUAAGUGCCUAAAAAGAAAAAAGCAGAUGCCUGCAUAAAUAACUUAUACAAAAAAAAAACAUUCAAUGGAAGAUAAUCCAAAUGCUCGUCAUAUGGUCUAAACAAGCAAAUUAACAAGAUCAAAACCAAAUAAAUAUAAGAGAGAGAGAGAGAGAGUUAAAUCAACACUUUAAAAUCCUUUCGGUUCUAUGCAGUAAGGAUGGCAAACUAUUUAAUCUAAUGGUAGAAAUUUAUAACAAAGAUAUUUGUAAUCAUUAAAUUAAUACUUUUUUUGUCUUUCCACUUUUCAUCCUUGCUACCAAAAAGUGCUAGCCUUUUAUCACAUGCCUAAAGGAGAGGCCUUCAAGCAAGUCAUACACAUAAUAAGUACUGGAAAAUUAAGCCAAUACUAACUUUCAAGGUAACACUUUGGAAUAAAACUAAAUAAGUAAAGGUCUAAUUAUGAAUUUUAUCCCCUUAAUUUACAAAACCUGAUAAGUUAGUCCAAUUGGAUAACAUUAGUAAACCUCACUGUUAAAUUACUAGCUUGAACAUCAACACUUCAAUAUUUAAUAUGUAAGGAAUUAUCAAAAAUCAACAUUUCAAUAAUUUAUAUGCAAGAAAUUAACACAAAUCAAUCUUACAACAGUUUAUGUGAAACAAAUUAGCAAAAAAUCAAUUAUUCAUAGUUCAUAUAUUUACCGGCAUUAGGGCUUAAAUCUUCAAUUUCUAUAAUGAUUUAUAUGCAACAAAUUAACAAAAAUCAAUGGUUCAAGUUCAUGUAUUUACCAAAAAUCAGACUAAUUUUUCAAUAUUUAUAACAACUUAUAUGCAACAAAUUAGCAAAAAUAAAUGGUUCAAGUUCAUGCAUUUACCAACAAGCAGACUAAAUUUUCAAUUUUCAAUUUUUAAAACCCUAAACCCAUUUUGGGUAACAUUAGUAGAACAUUUCAAUAUUUAAUAUGUAAGGAGAUAUAAAAAAUCAUCAUUUCAACAAUUUACAUGCAAAAAAUUAGCAAAAAUUAACAAUUCAUGUAUAAUGUAUUUACCAAAAACCGGACCAACUUGUCAAUUUUUAUAACAUUUUAAAUGCAACAAAUUAACACAAAUUAACAAUACAAGUUCAUAUAUUCACCAAAAACCAGACUAAAUUUUCAAUUUUUAUAAAAUAAGAGGAUGGAAGUCUAACAAAUUAAAGUUUCCAAUGAAAUUCAGACUUACACCAUUAAGUAAAUAAGAGUUUUAAACUAUCAGAGAUCAAAACAAAUUAGCAAAAACCAACUGUUCAAGAGCAUGUAUGCACAAAAAAUAGGAUCAAAUUUCCAAUUUUUGCAAAUUAAAAGGAUCAAAUUCUAACAAAUUAAAGUUUCCAAUGAAAUUCAAAAUUACACCAUUAAGUAAAUAAGAGUUUUAAAUUACCUGAGAUCAAAAACCCAUUUUGGGUAUAAACUUAUGUAACUAUUUAUUAAAUCUGCAACGUCGUUUUGAUGCUUUGGUUCAAUAUUAGCUGAAGCUUCUCUAAGUUCCUGCAAUUUUGAAACAACAAAAUUUAAAAGAAUAAAAAUUUGAGAAGCUAUUACAUUUCAUGUAAGUGUAAAUUAAUGACGUUAGUGUGUUUAGGUGGGAAACAAAAUAUAAGUUGAGACAAGUUGAGGUAUAAAUUGCAUAUUAAUCCUUACCAAAAUUGAUAGCUAAAACUUUAUCUUGUUAACCAUAAUUAAGAUCAUAUUAUUCAAAGUUUGCAAUUUCAGUUUCAAGCCGUGAAGAAUGAAAUAAUAGCCAUAGCAGCGCCUGCAAAACCUCCAUAUGAAUGAACAAAUGUAGUUCUUAUAAUAUAAAUAAUCAAAAAGGAGCAAUAAUAUAAAACAUACCUUUUUGUAGUUUCCUUAUUUUCUCUGAAAUCAAACAGCAGCACAUCCAUAUUUCUGUUUUUAAAACGUUAAUCUGAGACAAAACUAAUGCCUUUUCCGAUGUUUUUCUUUCGGACUUCUCAUCAUCAAAUCCAAUACCCAAUUUUGACAUAUCGAAUUCACUCAAAUUCCUUCGUUUCACGAUUCCAGAUACGUAAUUUUUGCUGUUUUGGUUCAUUGGUCUCGGACUUUACAGAAAUCCCAUGGACCUCCAACUUGCACAACAGAAUGCGUGAAAAUUAAGUUAGAUUUAAUAGAUCUUAGAACAAAAAUAGAAUAAAACACAAAGGAGUGCAUACAUGUAUGCAAGCAUCAAAAGGAAUUAAUCCACAAUGAGGCCACGGAUUAAAGUAGAAUCAUUCAGCUGAUAUCAGUUCCAGGCCCCCCAAAAUGAGAGCCUCUUGAUGUCCUGCUUUAAGAAAAUGUGAGUUUUAUAUAAGUUUUUGCAUGUUUUAACUUUUAAUAUAAUUAAAAGCGUCCAAGUUUACAUAGGCAAACUGGAAGGAAACGACUUUGUAUAAAUUCCGCCAUAUCUUCAAGUGAAUAACUGAAAGAACUUGAAUUUUAAGAAGACUGUAACAGAUCCACCUCAGAAAAUUAAAACCAAUAAACAAAAACACAAUAACCAACUAGCAGUCAACUUGUCAGGUCAAAGCACUCACGCAUAAAUCAUUGCAAAUAAAAACUAUACACAACCAAACAAACUUCAUAAGGCAAUCAAGAUAAAGUAUAACUUGAAAUAAACCACAAGAGUCUACCUUUCUGAUACUGCUGAUCGGUGACAGGCUUCUUAUUAGCAGCUGGUCCCAAGCAAGAAACAAAGCAAACAAAGCAAAUGUCUAAAAGCAGAAGCAAACGUGAAUGAAGGCACAUAUAGUUGUGGAAACGGGAGUAACAAGCUAAUGGGACUUACAGGACAAGGACGCUUAGGAUCUAGGAAAACAACCCGUAGUAUUUGUUCUAUUGCAACUUGAUCCUUCUGCUCAUCAAACUGCAAAAACCAAGCACCUAAGAUUAAUUACUCAACAAAAUUACAAAUAUCCAACCACAAGAGGAAGAAAUACAGAUAGGUAGAGAAGCAAUCAAUCAAUAGUAUAGAUGGUGAAAUUUACAAUUGUGCAUCAUGCUAUGGCAGAAAGACAACCCAAAAUAUUAUUGAAAAACCGUGCAUGCCUCUUUCAAAAUUGGCCCAAGAUCAGCUUUGAGAAAAAAUAAAUUCUCAUCCCAUCAAGCAUGCACAAAAGCGACGGAAAGAUAAUUUUUGAAGGUCUGGAAAGAUAAUUUUUUAAAAAGGGAAGUACAUACAUGGAAAAUAUAGCUUAUUAGCUGGAUCAAGUUUGAGCCGACGCCGAGUCCGCAAAAGCGACUUUGCAACGGACAGCUACCUUCAUUUGCUUGCACAGGAGGGCUCCGAUUCCAUGAGGAAGAACUACCAGCCACGGUUCAUUUAGAUAGGUAAGGCAGAGUCUCAGACAGAACAAUCUCCGCAGCUGCGUCCACAUCCUUAGAGUUCUCGAUAGCAACAGCUUUUAGAAUUCGUGAAUCAACAUAUGCAGUAGGUGUAAGAAAAUAUACUUGCACUGCAUGUUUGUUACAUUUCUUUUUCCAAAUCACCACGCUUUAUGUUAUACACAUACAUAAAUCAAUUACAGCAUGGGAUUAAAAAUGAGUAAAAAGAAAUACCUGUGGGAAAAUAUCCAUGAAGCAUUUAUAAACCUUUUUAAACCCCAUAGUGGAAAGCUAUUAACCUGCAAAUAAAGUAACAAAAAUUUACAUGAAAUCUGUAAUCAAAGUAAAAUACGAUGAAGGAAGUAUUCACAAUGGGAACCAUAAUUUUAAUCACGUUAAUCAAACGUAAAACUAUAAAAUCUUAAUUUAAACAACAGAAUUGAGGAAUAAAUUUUUAAAAAAUAUUACAUGCAAAAUGACCGAUCAAUUGAUAGAAUUCCUUCCAAUUAGUAAUGGAGAAAAACAAAGGAGGGAGAUAUGAUUAAUAUAAAAUAGUGUAUCAUAGAAUCAGAUGAACCGAAAGUAGAAACCCUAACGCCAAGUCUGGAUAUUAAAAAGACAACAAAAGCUAAUUUUGUAUUAAUUGCAAAGGAACAUGGCUGUAUAUCUCAGGUAAAACAAGAAAUAACAUCAUAAGAUUUUCUCACUGAAAAGCAAAUGUAUGCAUACAUGCAGCUCAUAAAAUAGAGAACAUGAUAAGACUGGUAAAGUUAUCUCAAAUCUAGAGUUACCAAGCACAUCUCACCACCCCAUACAAUCUCUAAUACUAGAAGGAGAAAUAACUUGUUAAUCUCGUCUUAAACAGAAAAAAACAUUCUACAACAGGCCAUAGGUGUCAAAAGGAAGAGAAAAAGAAAGAGAAUUUCUAAUAAAAUUAAAAUUAUUUAUUAGAAGGGCAAAAACCUGCUACAAUUAUUAAUGAAUUAAAAAACAUGUAAAAAAGAUUUAUAAGAAAUAAUUACAGACAAUAGCAACCUCUGAAUAAAAGACCUAAAGAAAGGAAAAUGAAAUAAAAGAACCAAAAAUAAAUCCACUGAAAUAGGAGAAAGGAAAAUGAAAGAAAAUUUCCCGAAAAGCACCCAAUAUAGCUCACUGAACCUAAGAACCAAAAAUAAAUUAUGAGAUCCAAAAUCGAUGGGGCUGAAAGGAUAAAUUUAACAUUAAAAAAUGAAGGAAAAAAUAGAGAAUUAAAACAGAGAAUUAAACGCGUUCCAAGUCAAUUUCAAAAGGAGGAUUGGGGAUUCUCAUCUCAUAUUCCAGAUACUCCCUAAGGGUCCAUAUGUUCAAGAACUGCAAAGAUGAAGCAAAUAACAAGUUCUAAUUUUUCCAAAGAAUUCAUUAUAAUAAUUCCAGCUGUAAAUUCAAUUGCAAAGUAACCUGAUAUGGCUUUCUGGCCACAGUUUUUCCAUCAGCUUUCUCAUCAAAUUCUCCUUCCUUCCUCUUUGCCUUCCCUUCACAAUUUGCCGCUAUAUGGCCCAUCUGACCGCAUGUGCAGCAUUUAUCUUGCCCAGGGGUGAAGACAAUCUGAAAAUAUUUCAUAAACCCUGUUACUUUUGGGCCAGGAGGGAACAUGAUAAUAGAAUGAUAAAACAUCCUUCGAAGUAAAUGAUAACAGAGAGAAAAAGUGGUAUCAUUUUCUGAGUAAACGAACAGAAAACGUAACUGAAAUGCAGAAGAGAAAGUGAAAAAUUAAAACAGAUAAAGAAGUUGUAUGUUGAAGGAAAUGGAAAUAAAUGAUUGAGAAUAAGUUGAGAAAAGCAAAGUCACAUGAAUUAAAACAGAUAAAGAAGGAAAUAAAUGAUUGAGAAGAAGUUGAGAAAACUUUACCUUGGGUAUGUUGAAGGAAAGAAAGAGGCUUCAGAGUCACAUGAGAAACAGAUAAAGUAUGAGCUCUUCUGAGAUGUAUGCAAAAAGAGGGAGAGAGGGGAAGAUGAUGAAUACGGUGGUGGCAGAGAGAAACCCUUGGGUGUUUUGAGGAUACCAAUUUUAGGGGGAAAAAUUUAGGGGUUUCAGGGGGAAUUUUGGUAUAAAAGCGGUAAAAGUGAAAUAAUUUUUGUGGCCUUUUUUAUAAAAGCGCCGCUAUUGUUUAUCUCUUGGCCGUAAAAAAAUUAUUUUCAUUUUGAACAAAAUGAUGUCAUUUUACUAAGUUAAAAAUUUUUAUUUUAUUUUUUAUAAAUUGAUUAUUUUUUGUGGCGUUUUUUAUGAAAACACCGCUAAAUGUUUUGCUAUAUAAAAUGGCUAUUUUUUAAAGUAAAAUUAUUUUUUGUAGCGUUUUUUUAUAAAAACGCUGCUAUUGCUUACCUUUUGCGGCGUUUUUAUAAAAACGCCGCUAAAUGUUUUGCUAUAUAAAAUGGUGCUAUUUUUUUAAAGUAAAAUUAUUUUACUAUCAAAUAAUCUCUCACACAUCAAAUUUCUAUUAAAGAUUACGUUAAUUAUGAUUUUAUAUUGUUCAUUUCUGAUCUAAUCUCUAUUUUAUUAGAGAUAUUUCUUCCUAACUAAAAUAUAAUUAUUUUGCUAGAUGUUUGAUGUGGAAUGAUUUUAGUUUUUGUAUUUUAUUUUUAUUUGUUAUAAUUUGGUCCUAUAUAUCUAAAAUAGAUAGUUACCUAUCCGUAUCAAUUUGUUACAUUUUUUUAUUUAUUAAUUUUUUUAAAUCUAAUAUUUAAAUAUAUCAAAUGGUUUAAAUUAAAUAUUUUUUAGUCACAAACACCGCUAAUGUUACCUUUUUCGGCGUUUACAGAAGAAACACCACUAAUAAAUUAAAUUCUUGUAAUGAAACGACACCGUUUUGAAAAAUUCUAAAUCAUAUUAGCGGCAUAUUUUACAAUUUUUUACAUUCAAUUAUUGUAUAUUGCAUAUCAAUCUUAAACUAAUAAUCUUUACAAUUUAUUAUUUCUCUUUUACAAUUAUAUAAGAACUUAUUUAAUAUAUAAAUUAAAAAAUACUAAUUAAUCUAAACCUUAAACCCUAACUCGACCUCGAAUCUCUAAACCCUAAAUCAAUAACUCUUAACCCCAAACCCCAAACCUCUAAUCCUUAAUUAAUAUAGAAAUUAAAAAAUACUAAUUAAUCUAAAUCAUAAACCCUAACCCGACCCCAAAUCCCUAACACCUAAACAUUAUUUAAUAUAUAAAUUAAAACACACUAAUUAAUCUAAAUCCUAAACCCUAACUUGACACUGAAUCUAUAAACCCCAAAUCCCUAACUCUUAAUCUCUAACCCUUAACCCCUAACCCCUAACCCAUAAACCUUAAAUCACAAUCCUUAAAUCAGAAUCCCUGAUCCAUAAUCCCUAAUUCCAUAAUUUAUAAGCCUUAAAAUUGCAACUCUUAAACCAGCCCUAAAUCCUAAAUUAACUAUAUAUAUAUACCCUAAACCAUAUAUAUUAAACCCUAAACUAUAAUGAUAAUUAAAUUAAAUAUUUUAAAAUUAAUACUAUCGUAUCUUUUACAAUUAUAUUUGAAAUUAUUUAAUAUAUAAAUUAAAAAUCAAUCAAUCAGGUACACAAAAAAAUUUAAAAUUAUUUUAAAUAAUAGUAUUUUAAUUUCUUCAUUUUUAACAAAUAUUUUUCUAUGUUUUUUAUUUCAAAUUUAUCCAUUUUUAUCAAAUAUUCAAUUAAAAAUAAAUAAAAUAGUAAAUAGCAGAUAAAAUAUUUUUGCGGCGCUUUUUCAAAAACGCCGCUAAAGAUCUGAAAGGUACAAAACGAUGUCGUUCGGCUUAGGUUUUUUGCGGCGUUUUUCCAAAAAAUGCCGCUAAUGCUAAUUUUUAGCGGCGCUUUCCUGGAAACGCCGCUAAUGCUCGAUCUUUAGCGGCGUUUUACGUAAAGCGCCGCUAAUGCUCGAUUUUUAGUGGCGUUUUUUGUCCAAACGCCGCAAAAAAUGCCGCUAAAAGCCUGUUUUGGUGUAGUGAAUAUUAAUUCAUUUAGUUACGUGAGUUAUGUAUAAUAUUAUCUAACUUAUUAUGUUAUUAUGUAAGUUAUGUAUUAUGUAAGUUAAGUAUUACAUAAGUUAUGCAAGUCCGACAAGUUAAUGUAUAAUAUAAAUUGAUUUAGUUAUGUGAGUUAUGCAAGUUGUUAUAUAAGUUUCUAUAUAAGUUACGUAACUUAUUAUGUAAUAAGUUAUGUAUUAUGUAAGUUUAUAUAUAAGUUAAUGUGUAUUAUGUCAUAAGUUAUGUAUUAUGUAAGUUUAUAUAUAAGUUGUUAUAUAAUUUUAAUUAUGUAACUUAUGAUAUCAUUGAUAUUUAGAAAAUUUGAAUUGUAUAUGUAACUUAUGAUUGAUAUUUGAAUUAUGUAACAUUUACAAUUCUUUCUAAAAUUAUAAAAUUUAUUAUUGAAAAUAUAGAUGUUAAUAUUUAGAAAAAUAACAUUUACAAUUAUUUCGAAAAUUAUAAAAUUUAUUAUUGAAAAUAUAGAAAAUAACAUUUACAAUUAUUUCUAAAAUUAUAAAAUUUAUUAUUGAAAAUAUACAUGUUAAAAUUUAGAAAAAUAACAUUUACAAUUAUUUCUAAAAUUAUAAAUGUUAUUAUUGAAAAUAUAGAUGUUAAUAUUUAGAAAAAUAACAUGUACAAUUAGUUUUAAAAAUUUCUAGAACUAAUUAUUAACAAUAUUUAAAUAUAGCUUAUAUACGUAAAUUAAUAUAUGUAUAAUAUUUAAAAUAUAGUAAUACUUAUUUAAGUUAUCAAAUUAUGUCCCAAAUUUAUUACGUUUUUUCCACGAAUGCUUGUGUGAUUUUCUAAUAUAAAAGCAUAAAAACCCUAGACAAUUUAAAGUUGCAUGCUUUGCUUUUUUAUUUCUAUAAGUUUACUACCAUUUCUUUAUUUUAUAAGUAAUCAUUGAUUUUCAGAGUGUAAUAACAAUUGUAAACCAUAUAUAUUACUAUCAACAACAAUAAUUCUAAUUUAACUUGAGUACCUUUUAAUAGUUCGAGACCAAUAAGACAUUAUGUUUCAAAAAUAUUAACUUGAGUACCUUUUAAUAUUCAUAUGUUAUAAAUCCAUUUUAAAAAUAACUAGUAUUAAUUAAUAAAAUUUGCUUUGGCAAAAGGAACUAUUAGCACAUAAACAUAGUACUCCACCUGCUUAAAACCAUUUGGGGAUUUGCAUAAUACAUGUCAAAACUGCCUACAUGCAACGGCUAUAUCGGUACCUCGAAAAGCAACACGCAUAACUGACGCUGAUACAUUACAACAGAAGAAUGAAACAUUUACCUUCCACACCAAAGAAUAGACAAUUUAUGCAGCGAAAUAGGCAGCAAUCUAGCCCGAAGAAAUUGACCUUUCACACCAAAGAAUAGCGUUCUCCGUCCAACACAGCAAGCUAAGCACAACAACGCAAACAUGAAUUAUGAACAGUUACAUAGUACUGUAAACUACAAACAGGAUAUAAACAAAUAAGAUGUUUCUUUAAUGUAAUGCACUGGAUUAAGCAUUUCUAUAUUAUUUGACUGCAUAUGCCCAAUGAUUUUUGUCAUCUAACUAUAUAUUCAACUCUGUUUUAGGGAGGGAGAGCUGAAGGAGGACCAUAACCAGAUUUAUUUUUAUUUUAUUUCAUUUAAGCUAUAUAUAUAUUUUUAAUUAUGCUAUAAUAUUAUUGGUGAUCAGAACAAGAAACCAAAUUUCCAAUAAUUUCUGUCAUGACUUCACUAAAAACGUCGCUUCUAGGUCUCUCAAGUCAAAUUUAACAACAGCAUAAAUGAUAGGCACUUACAUCACUUUCAAUUAAUUAACUACUCAAUACUAUACGAAUUGUAACUAUAAUUACAAAAUUUCGGAGAAGAAUCUAUCAAAUACAGGGGAGGUUAGGUCAUUUGCCAUGAGAAUUUUAAAUCUAAAGUUUCAAACUUAUGAACAAAAUUAGUACAAAUAGUUCAUGGCACCAAUGGAUGAACAAACAAAUUUCAAACUUAUUAACAUAUAAAACGCAUAUAAAACAACUAUGCAUAUAAACGCAGUUCAAGUGAAUCCAGUACUACAAGGCUGCAAAUCCUGUAAUACAACCAGUUUCAAACUUAUGAACAAAAUUAGUAACAAAAUUAUGAACAAACAGUAUUACAAGCCUGCAAAUUCAUUUUCUAUAAUACAACAGGGUAGUCAAAAUUAUGAACAAAAUUAUGUUUCAAACGUUUUUUUUUUAAAUACAAACAGAAAAGAAACUGUCAAAUGAACUAAAUCAUGCAACUGGUAUAGAUUAAAGUGUAAGAACAAAUUCCCAAUUUUUUACUGCAGGAGAAAAAGAGGAAAACCUUAUAUUUUGUUGUACCCUAGCGACGGCAGAGGACUGCGGCAGCACAGGACAGUGACGGUCGACGGUCGACGACUAAGAACAGGAGGGUCGGUGAGCAAUGUAGCAGAAAUGGUUGGGGCAGCCUAGCUAGGGUUCUAGAAUUGGGGGAAUUUUAGGGGGAAAUUCGGGGGGAAUUUUGGGGAUAAUUUGGGGGGAAUUUCGGCUAAGUGUUGGGAUAAAAUGAUAUACCAGAAUGAACUAUUGCGGCGUUUGUAACAUAGCGCCACUAAUGCUGUUAAUGAAGCAGAUAAAACGACACUGUUUUAUUAAAUCUGUGAAGAAACAUUGCGGCGUUUUAAGUAUAGCGCCGCUAAAUCCUUCAUUUAGUGGCGUUUCUACAUUUACGCCACCAAAGCCAUUCAAUUCCAAAACAAAACUACACCGUUUUUUCCGAUUAAUUAAUAACUUUUGCGGCGUUUUUGCUUAAAACGUCGCUAAAUCUCACAUCUUUUAUUUAUUUAUUUAUUUAUUUAUUUAUUUUAUCUUUAAUUAAUUGUAUCUUUUAAUUACUAAGUAUAAUUAAAGUUUAUCAAUUCUUUUGACAAUUUUGAAUACAAUAAAAAUAAAAAUUUAUUAAUUAUUAAAACAUUUGUACACUACUAAAAGUUUACUUAUAUAUAACUAAUUAAAUUAUAAUAUUUUAGAGUAAAUGGUUUAAGGUUUAAUAUAUUUAGAUAAUAUUACGUCUUAUGCAUGUAUAAAAUUAAUUUAACCAUUCAAUUAUACAUGCAUAUAUAUAUAAAGUUAUCUAUACACCUAUCUCUUAAUUAAAUAAUAUAAACUAUGCAUCCAAAUCCCGUCGUUCAUCCAAGAAGGCUGAACCAGAUUUUGUAGAGUACUGACCAAAAAUUGGAGGAAAACAAAACCGCGCAGCUGGGCGAUAAGACGUAAUAUUAUAUACUCAUAAUUUAAAUAUAUUAAAUUAAUUUAUUGUAAUAUAAAUUAUGAAAACUAAUUAAUAUAAGCAACCAUCCCUAACUUGAGUACCUAACCCUUAAAUCUCAAACCCCAACCCCUAAAUACCCAACCCCUGAGUCCUUAACCCCUAAACCUUAAUCCCGAACCCCAAAACCCCAAAACCCUAAAUCACAAACCCCAGACCCCAGACCACCAACCCUAAAUCCCAAAUCCCGAACCCCUAAACCUAGACCCUAACCCCAAACCCCUAAACCUUAAUCCCAAACCCUAAUCCAUACCUGGUACUCCUUAAAAGACCAUCCAAAAAAAUUAUUCCCUAAAUCUUUAAUAAUCAUAAAAUAUAUUUAAAAUCAACUAAACAAUAAUUAAUAUUUAAUAAUUUUGUAUAAAGUACCAAUACACAAUAUUAAACUUUAUAAAUUUUUUUUAUAUAAAGUUACCAAUCAUUAAUAUAUAUUUUUAUUUAUAAUUAAAAAAAUUCUCUAUUUAACUACUUUAUUAUACUUUAAAUUUAUCAAAUAGAUAAAUGAAAACACAAAGGACGAACAACGACUAUAUAUAUAUAUAUAUGUAUGAGAUUUUUUUUUUAAUAUUGAAGUGAUAACAAAAGGAAUGAUAGCGAGUUAAAAUAUUUUAUAUAUUUUAAUUUGAAUGAAUUCAAUUCAAAUUCACAAAUCUAUUUAAGUUACUAAUUAUAUUGCAACCUUGAAUUUAAAUUAAAUAAUAUUAUAUAUCCAUCGAAUUUUUUAAUCCUAAUAAAAAACAUAUCUUUAAAAUUUAUAAUCAUACUAUCUAUUUUAGGAUCAUAUAAUUUUUUUUAAUAUAUUAUUAUAUAAAAAAAUUAUCAGUAUUAAUCAUGUACUCAAAAAUCUUAAAAAUUAUUUUAAAUAAUAAUAAUUUAAUUUUUUCACGUGAUAUAUUUCAAAAUAUUUCUAUGUGUUAUUUUUUUCCUGAAUAUUUUAAAUAUUUAAUUACAUUUAAGUUGAAUUUUAUUUAAUUAAUAUGAAUAAUAUAAGCUAAAUAAGGAAAAAUGCUUUUUACCGGCGCUUGAAAACAAACGCCGCUAAAUAGACUAAUUUUCCGGCCCUUACAAAUAAACGCCGCAAAAAACCCAACUUUAGCGGCGCUUUAAAACCAAACGCCGCUAAGUACAUUAACAUUAGUGGCGAUUGACCAAAACACGCCACUAUCACCCACCAAUCAAAUAGCGGCGCUAUGAUAGAAACGCCGCUAAAUACCUUAACAUUAGUGGCGAUUGACCAGAACACGCCACUAUCACCCUCAACCAAUAGCGGCGCAUACAUAAAAACGCCAGUAAAAUUCACAACAGUAGCGGCGCUAGGAUAGAAACGCCGCUAAAUACCUUAACAUUAGUGGCGUUUCACCAAAAACGCCACUAUCACCCCCAACCGAUAGCGGCACUAAGAGAAAAACGCUGCUAAUACCUUAACACUAGCGGCGAUUGACCAAAAACGCCACUAAAAUCUCCACCAUUAGCAGCGCAAACGUAAAAACACCGGUAAAGGUAAGAACAUUCGCGACGCUACACUAGAAAACGCCGAUAAAUAUCGUAACAUUACUGGUGGUUUCUCACAAACGCCACUAAAAGACCCACCAUUAGCGGCGUAUACCCAAAAACACCGUUAAAGGUCUCAUCAUUAGCGGCGAUAAUAUUGGAACGCCACUAAAGCCCUUCGAAGACCACAGAAACGACGCCGUACCAUUUUUUUUUGUGGCGUUUUAUGUGAAAACGCCGCUAAUGCAUAUUUUUUUGCGGCGUUCUAUUGAAAACGCUGCUAAAUAUCAGUUUUUACCGGCGCUUCCUCUUAAGCGCCGCUAAUUCUCUAUUUUUUCCGGCGUUUUUUCGAAAAACGCCACUAAAACUGCCGUUAAAACCCAAUUUUGGUGUAGUGAUUUGGAUUUUGUGGUCAAAUUUUAAGUCAGAACAAUUAGAAUUAAGUUCUUUUGAAUUCAAAUUAGUCUAAAUUAGAGUCAUUUUCAUUUCGGAUUUGAAUUUAACUAUUAAAAAUAAUGAUGUCAACUAAAUUAAAAUUUAGAUAAUUUUUUAAAAUUGUUUUAAGCAGUUUGGAAUAUUGGGCGUUCGAGCUUCUGGUACUCUUAGCAGGAUUGAUGCCUAAUUCAGAAGUAACUACUUCCUUGAUUGCCAUGUGGUAUGCUUGCCUUCAGGGUGAAUCCAAAAAACAUUUUUAAGGGGUUGAAAUGAAAUUUUAAUUUUUAAUAGUUUAUAUCUUUAUUAUUUUUAAAGGAUUAAAUUAAAUUUUUAUAAUUUUAGGGGACUAAAGAAUAAUUUUAUCUUUAUUAAUUUAAAAUUUUAUUUUAGAGAGCCAAACCCUGUGAUCGCCCUGUUCGCCUUCUACUUUUAUACUUUUCACUGAAUCCAUUUAAAAGAUUUCAAAAUUAAUGGGAUUUGAGUAAAAUAUUUUGUUUCAGUGUGAAUACAGAAUCAAUUGCUUACAUGAUUACUUACGGACUUAGUGCUGCAGCAAGGUGAGUUCUAUUUUAUUAUUAUCUUAAUUAAUUUACGGAUUUUAAGCUGAUUUAAUUGAAACAGCACGAGGGUUUCGAAUGAAUUGGGGGCUGAGAAUCCGAGGAAGGCAAAGACCGCCAUGGCUGUGUCACUUAAGCUUUCAAUCCUUCUGGUUCUAACAGUGGUUGUUACAUUAGCAUUUGGGCAUAACAUAUGGGCUGCUUCCUUCACCAACACUGCUUCCAUUAUUAACCAAUUUGCUUCAAUCACACCCUUCCUUUUAAUCUCCAUUACUAUCGAUUCUUUUCAAGGCAUCUUAUCAGGUAAUUUUGGAAAACAAAAAACAAACAAUUGAGUGAAGAAAUGGAAGGAUUAAAAUGAAAUGAAUAAAAUGUUGCAGGGGUGGCCAGAGGAAGCGGAUGGCAGGUGUUGGCUGUGUUGGCUGUGUGGUCCAACUUGGGGACCUUUUAUUUAAUUGGAAUGCCAGUUGCAGGGAUUCUUGCUUUUAAGUUUAAGCUUUAUGCUAAGGUAAGUGUCUUAGCCAGAUAUCAGUUUGACUGCUCUAAUUAAUUUAUUCCAUUUAAUUAUAUACAUUUUUUCAUAAGUCCUCUGGAUAAAUAAUUUUGUUCCCAAUCUUUCCCUAAAUAUUCACAUUUUAAUUUAACCUUUUUUUUAUAUAUUUUUUCUUUCAUCAGGGUUUGUGGAUAGGGUUGAUAUGUGGUCUUUCAUGCCAAGCUGCUGCCCUCUUGCUUAUUACUUUGUGUAGAAAAUGGGCUAAAAUUGAGCUUUCCUAACAAAUUAAUAUUGAAACAUAGUUCAAUCUUAACUAAUCUUCAUACUUUAUGGGUAUUUAUUUGUCGAGACUUAUUUAAAAUGGUGAACUUAACAUUUAAAUGAUUUGAGUUUGUAAUACGUGAAAUAAAGGAGGGAAAGGGUUUUCUAGUGAAGAAGCAAGGGAGAAUAUCACAGAAUGGAGUGUCUAAAGUGUUGUCCCUUAAACAGGAAUUUUUAAAAUAUAUGUAAGGAAGUUUUUCGAGUCAAAUUCUAGAUGGAGUUAUGAUAUUCAAAUUUUGUUAUGUUUUUUGUUCUAAUAUUGGAGAUCCUUUUAAUAACAAAGUGACUAGAAAUGAUAAUUGGAUAUUUACAAAUUUUUUAAAUAAUUUCUCUUGAUUUACCUAAAUAAGUUUUCUUAUGUGUUUAUUAUUUGAAUGAUUAAAAUAGCAAUAUUCUUUGAAUAUUAUUUUCACCUACAAAAUUACUUUCACAAUGACUAUGGGUCAAGUUAUUUUGACUCGGGUCAAUUUAAAAUUCGAAUGUCUUAUAAAUAUUUUGUGCAAGGUUUAAUGGUGUAAAAAAAAUUUAAACUUUUUCAAAAAAAGUAAUUGAAUCUAUAUUUUUUAUUCAAUUGGGUACUUAAAUUUUCAAAAUGUAUAAAAAAAGACAUCAAAUUUUUUCAAAAAAGCAAUUAAACUUCUACUUUUUUUUUGCACUCAAUUGGGUACUUGAGCUGCAAAAUGCAUGAAAAAGGCGGUCGAACUUUUUCAAAAAAAACCAAUUAAGCUCCAACUUAUUUCUCAUUUAAUUGGGUACUUGAACUAUCAAAAUGCAUAAAGAAGACCCUCAGACUUACAAAAAAAAAAGCAAUUAAGCUUUUUUUUGUUUUUGCACUCAAUUGAGUACUUGAACUGCUAAAAUAUAUAAAAAAGACGAGUUAACCGUUAACUUUAACGUUGACCGUUAAAAUUAACCGCUCCUAAUUGCAUACCUUUGGAUGAACUCGGAGAUGGGGUCAGCUAAAAGGAUAUUUGAAGUCUCCCCAUUGGCAAUUCGAUCGAUGUAAGGCUUUAUAUCUUCGUAAGUAACAAUGGGUACAUUGUUUUUGAAGAGUUGUUUAUCAGUUCGGCCAUGGAGGAAUCGAGUUAGAUAUUCAGUUCCAGCAUUUCUCAGCAGUAUCUCCUCUAAUACUUGUUCUUGCAUUCGAUGACCAUUUUCGGUUAAUUCUUCCAAAAAAUUCAACCCAUUCUCAUAAUCUUUCGUUCCCAUCAGAUCAGCCAUGAAAACAGGGAUUUUUUUUAAUGAGCUGAUAAAUAUUCUAACACUUCAAAAGACAUGAUCACGAUUUCUUUUUGCGGAUAUGUUUGAAGUGGGAUAGAUGAUUAUGAUUCUGAAACUGGUUGACACAGCUGAUGUGAUGGCGGCCGUAAGUACAGUACACCGCACAGAAAGAUACAAAUCCUUUAAAAUUAUAAGAAUUUUUAUAAAUAAAAAACAAGAAUAUACAUUAAAAGUUAAAAAAAUACAUUUGGUCUCGUAUGAAUUUGGUUAAAUUCUGAUAUUAGUCCCUGUACUUUAUAAAAGCUAUUGAUUUAGUCCUUAUAAUUUAAUUUGGUCAUCUUUAGUCCUUGUACUUUUUAAAUUUGAAAUUUUCAAUCCUCACCAAAUGAUGAUUGUUAAAUCCACUAAGUUAAGUUUUUAUUAUUUCCAAAAUUUGAUGUGCCAAAUAAAUUAUCAUAUGUGUAAUGUCAUGUCAGCUUGUUAUUUUUACAUAUUAAUUACAAAAAUCACAGUUAAUGGAUUAACGGCUAUCAUUCACGUCAAGAUUGAAAUUUCAAGAUUAACGAUUAUCAGUUAACGGACUUCUAUUUUCAUUCGUUGGUCUUUACGACCAUCUCUGUCUUCAAGAUAGUCUUCGGCGGACAUUCCACAUAAGAUAGUCAUUGGUUGACUUUUCGUGUAAGACGGUCUUUGGUGGACUUCCUUUUUGCUGGCGACCUUGUUGCCAAUACACAUUUAGAAAUAAGUUCUGUAGAACCGUCUCACUUCCUUAUGACCCCUGUUGACUUGUCUGUUACCUCUGGUGGACUCUUAUUAACGAAUACUUCUUUGCAAUUAAUUUGAAGAAAAUAUCUCUGUUUUUUCCACACAUAUCUACGCACAAGGCGUUUUUAAAUAUUCCUCAUGCCUUCCCAUCUUGACUUUACCUCUUAUCAACACGUUUGGCCCAGAGAUUUGAGGAAACAUGGCCGGGAUUGUCGUCAAAAUCAUUUCGUUUGGUCUUCGCGAAGCUGAAACUCGCCAUCCCUUUUGCGGCAAUGGUUUGGCGAGUUCAUUUUUUCCAAAUUAAAUUAUAAAAUUUUGAAGAAUCAAACAAAAUUUGUCAUUGUAUUAUUUUAUAAUAUUUCAUUUUUUAAAGGAAUAAACUUCUAAAUUUAUUAUUUUUGGGCUAAAGACUUAAGUCUAAUUAUUUUAAGGUGGGUUAAAUCUCAAAAUUAUACUUAAACUUUGAUUUAAUGUGAAAUUAUAUACAUGAACUUUAAUUUAGUAUAAUUAUAUGCGUGAAACUUAAUUGUAGUUUAAAUAUAUACUUAAAACUUUAAUUUUGAUUUAAUCAUACACAUUUUAAUAAAUAAAUUUAUUUAUUUAUUUUUAUAUUGGAUAAAUAUAAUUAUUUAUGCAUGCAAUAUAUAAACAUAAAAUGAUGUUAUAUUAAUAAUGGUGUUAAUAAUUUACAAGAAUUGAAUCAAAUUAAAAUUUCAUGUAUACAAUAGCACAUUAAAAUUUCGUACAUAUCCUUUUUGAGUUUGAGUCAAAAGUAAGCAUUUGAUUAUUUUAAUCGAUUUGAUAUUUUUUUUUCCUAAUUUAACCGAGUUAAUCGGUCUUAAUAUAAAAUAACCGAACCGAUCGACUAAGAUAUUGUUAACCGAUUUAAUGAAACUGACUAAGAUGUCAUUAAUUGAGUUUGGGUUGGUUUUUGGGUUGGGUUAGGUUAGAUAAUUGGAUUUUAAGUUUGGGUAAUUUAAAUUAUAUCAUAUAUCACAAAUAUAUUUAAAAUAAUUUAAAAAUAAUAAAUAAAUAAAUAUAAGUCAGUUAAGUUGAUCGAUUCAAUUAUAAAUUUUAGUAAUCGGUACUCCGCUGUCCAAAUCGACAAAACUGAAUUAAUUAAAAUUAAUCAAAUCAUCAAUUAAGUCGAUUAAAUCAGUCAUAACUGAAUAAUACUCUUUCCUAAUUUGAGUUAUUUGGAUUUUGUAGUCAAAUUUUAAGUCGGAACAAUUAGAAUUAAGUUCUUUUGAAUUCAAAUUAGUCUAAAUUAGAGUAAUUUUCAUUUCGAAUUUGAAUUUAACUUUCAAAAAUAAUGAUGUCAACUAAAUUAAAAAGUAGAUAAUUUUUUUAAAAUUGUUUUGAGCAAUUUGGAAUAUUGGGUGUUUUAUCUACAUUGAGAUGUUAACUCUGGUCUUUUUAAACAUUUUCCCCCUCUUACCAUUCCUUCUAUUCUCUUUUUCUUCUCUAAUAUGUACACAUACUUACCAAAAUAACCUUCUAAAUAUUUAUUAUUAAAAUAUUUAUAUUAAUCAAAAUGAUUUAAGGUGAGACAAAACUAAGAUCAUAGUUUUAUUUCCAAUAAAAGUUAGGAAAGUAUCGUAAAACGACAUAAUAUUUUUUAGGAUAAACUACACCCAUGGUCACUUUUGUUUACCUUAGGUUACAUUUUAGUCACUUAAGUUUGAAAUGUUAUGUUUUUGUCACUUAUGUUAUCGUGUUGUAACAUUUUAGUCACUAAGCUAUUAAUUGUUGCUAACUGUGUAACGGUAAGUUGACAUGGCACGUUAAAUCAUCAUUUCAAACAAAAAUUGUAGGGUAAAUUAUACAAUCAAUCCUCAUAUUUUUUUCAUUUUGAGCAAUUUAAUUUUUUUUAUGUUUAUAUUUAAUUUUUUUAUUUUUUUUAAUAUUUCCCAUUAUUUUAUGUUUCUCCUUAUAUUUUCUUACAUUCUCCAUUUCUUUUAACAUAUCAAGAAGUCGAAUUGGCAGUGAAGAAAUAAGUAGGAAGUCGAAAACCAUCAUUGCCUAUAACCAAAACCCAUUAAACCCAUGCCAUGCUUUUUUCUUCACUGCCAAUUCGACUUCCCGAUAUGUUGAAAGAAAUGAAGAAGGUAGGAAAAUAGAGGGAAAAGCAGAAGAGAAUGGAAAAUAAUGAAAAAAAAGAGUUAAAAGAACAUAAAAGAAAAAAAUUAAAUUGCUCAAAAUGAAAAAUAUGGGGACCAAUUGUAUAAUUUAACCUAAUUUUUUUGUUUGAAAUGAUGAUUUAAAGCGCCACAUUAGCUUAUCGUUAUACCGUUAACGACAAUUAACGGCUCAAUGACUAAAAUGUUACAACACGAUAACAUAAGUGACUAAAACGUAAAAUUUCAAACAUAAGUGACUAAAACGUAACCUAAAGUAAACAAAAGUGACCAUGGGUGUAAUUUACCCUAUUUUUUAAUUUCCAUGUAAAAUUUCUAGAAACAUUAAGAUUUAAAAAAAUAAAAAAAAUGCUUUUUUUUUAAAACAUAAUAUUUAUAAAAAAAUAUAAUUGGAUUCAUUCAUAUGUAAACGUAACAUAUUUCUAAAAUUAAAUAAUAUUUUAAAAUCUGAGGACUAAAUGAGAAAGUUAAAAAGGUGAAAUCCCUCUUAAAAUAAAUUAAAAACAUUAAAGGGAUUAUGUUGCAAAUAACCCCUCCAAGUUUCCCGUAUAUAAAAGACAUUUUCCUUUUUCUUUUAGUUUGUGAUGGAAAAGGAUAAUUACUUGGGUAAAUUACACUCAAGGUUGUUAAAUUAUUAAUAAAUUUACGUUUUGAUCAUUUAACUUAAAAAAUAUAAAAUGAUGAUUAAAUUAUUUGAAGGCUUUCAUUUAAGCUGCUGAUCUUUUCAAAAGUUUUUACUUAAGUUAUUGAACUAUUAUCCUUUUUUUUUUAAAGUCUGACUAGCGAGGUUAAAGUGGCAAUUUGAUGAACGGUACGAUGGAUUAAUACUUAUGGAUGAGUAAAGAAUGUAUAUUAGAUCAAGUCAAUCUGAUAGUUGAUGUCGAAGAAUGGAGAAGAAAACUAUUUGGAUUUUGAUUCGUAUAUACAUGGCAUUUAAAGUUGUUUUAUAUAUAAUAAAAAAAAUCCCUAAACUAUAGAAAAGUAGAGGUAGAAGAGUUUUUUAUUGGUGUAAGCAGGCAAAUAAUGAGGGCCAUAUAACAAUAAUUUUAACAACCCGAUGACUUAAAAGAAAAUUUUCAAAUAAUUCAUUAAUAAUAUUUUGUAGCUUUUUAAUAUUAAUUGACCAAAAUGUCAAACGCAUGUCUUCCAAGUCAUUUUUGCUCCACCAAUAUAAACAACGGUACAAAGAAUGUUAAAAAAUAAGAAAAUUGGUUAGAAAAGCGGUGAAAGAUUUUUUAAAAAAUUUUAUGGUGAAAAAGAGUUGGUGGAACCACUAACUCAUCCUUGUUGUCCAGGCUUGCGAGAUCAAUUGGAGUUCUUGAAGUGAAAUGCUUAAGCUUGUUAGCAUUUUUCACGUGCGCCAUCAUGGAUUGAAAGUCUAAGCCUAUGAACAGAAUUCAUCAUCUUGAAACUUCAACUCUUCUUCUCGAAUUGUUUUCGUGAUAAAGUCUCAAACAAAUAAGUUGAGUUUUGACUUUAUCUUUUUAGAUUUAGAUCUCGUAAUUGGGCCUUGAGAGAAACUAAGCUCAUCUCUAUUAUGGCCUUUGAAUUGGACUGAGUUGCUCGUAUCAAUAUAAGUUUCGGUAAUUUGAUUAAUGUAUUUAAAAAAAAUUCGGUUCAAUUAACGGUUAAAAAUUUUUACAUUUUAAAUAAUUCGAUUCGAUAAAUCAUUUUACCAUCCCUAUUCGCCACUAUUCUAUGGCACAUGCAUAUGCAAAAUAUAGUUGGCUCAUUACUUGUUCAUAGCUUCCUUGCUCAUUACAUGCAAAUGCAAAGAUUGAUCCUCAUAUUAUUCUUAAUUAUAGAAACAAUUAAAUUUCUUCCAAAAAUAAUUAUGAAAAUUAAAAUUAGUGUUAAAAUGUCGGUAGUAGUCUGGCAAUAGAUUUAAAAUAAUUUAAAAGAAAUAGUAAAAAUUAAAAAUAAUUUGAAUAAAAUUGAUGGGGACAUUCCAUUUCCCACAUUCAAGUCUUUACAUAAGUUGCAACCCACGUAACUAUCUCCAUCAAUUAUUUUAUUCCUUACCAAUUUAAGAACAAAAAACACAACCAAAAUGCUUAUAGUUUAGUAACUAAUAGUUAAUAGUGUAGUUUUUUUUGGUAAAAUAAGAAAUUUACCCUGAUUUUGUAUUAAAAAAAACUAAAAAUUAUUUAUAAAAUAGAAAAAUGUACAUUAGUCAACAUAAGGAUUUUUUUAUCCAAAUCAUACAAAAAAUUAAUAAAUUACAAAAAAUGAUAUGAAAGAUAAAUUAAUUACAAAAAUAAGACAUUGGUUACGAUGUUCUACUGGUGUCGCUUGGCAUAUUGGCAAUACCAGGCUAAAAUAUUAUAACGAAAAAUAUUUAAAGACUUGAUAUGUAAAUUUCUCAUUUUGAUUGGCUGUUAAAAAUAAGCUCUAAGGGUGUUGUGUGGCAAAUUGCAGCCCAAAAUCAUAAAAAGGAUUAAUUUCUUUGUAAACCCUCAUUGUUUAUUAUUUUGUUUUUAUUCCCCUUCAACACUAAAACUAAAAAGUUCUCUUACUCAAAUUUUUUUUUUAAAUUUUUAUAAUUAUAAUUUUAUACGCUACCGUAAAUUAAAUUGAUAAUAAUUAAAUUGAUAAUAAGAAUAAUUAUAAUGCCAUCUGUAAUGGCAGACAGCAAAGAAAAAGGCUAAAAGAAAAAGUAAUAAAAAUAGGAUUCCUUGCUAAUAAUUCUGCCUUUGUGGAUCCGACCAGAGACUUCAUAAUUUCCCUGUUUUUAUCUUCACUUUCUUCUUACUUCUUCUUCACUGCUUUUAAUUUGUUUCUAUGUCCAAGGUCUAUCACAAAUUUUGAAGCAUCCAGUCAAGGUAAUUUUCUUUCAUUUGCUUAAUUCAUCACAUUCUUUUCUUUGCUUUUGAUUAUCUGCAACUGUUAUAACAGCUAGCUUUGUAAGAUAGUCAAGGACGUCAACUUCGCUGCUUCCUUUUCAGUUCUAAUCUCUCAACACUUUUCAGCCACUAAGUCAGGUAAUAAGAUCUGAAGCUAUGAUUUCCUCUACUCAUUAUCAACUGUUUUAGAUUUUAAGAGUGGAUGACCAGCUGACAUAAUCUACUAUAGAUAGAAAUUAAUACAAAAAGAGCUACCCAGAAGCAAUAUAAUGUUGAAAUCUCCUGUUGAACAUUUUACCUCUUCAUCUUCUGUAAUGAACUCUUGCACACUUGAAUCUAGCAUUUUAUAUACAUUGAGAGCUUGAUUCUAGUGACCAGAAUUUCAUCAUGUUUCUGUCUGCCACUCAUCCAUAGCUCCAUCCAAUAAACGCCAUUGCUUGAAACUUGCAUUCAUGUUUCCUUUUCAUGCUUACACAGACAUAUCAAUACUUCAUCCAAUACAUUCACAGGUUUUCAUUCUCUGCUACUGUUAUAUAUGAUUGCAUUGCAGGGACAUAACAAUGGAAUACGUAGAGCCUGUUGUCGCCAUUGCAAAUUGUCUCAGAACUCCUGUUUGUAAAUAUUUGCAAUAUCACAGAAAGCUGAACGAUUAUGCGAGAAACUUCAAGACGAUCAGAGAUGAAUUGAAUUGCAAAAUGGAAGAUAUAGAGCUGCAAUUGAAAGCAGAGCUUCUUCGUCCUCUGGGGAAGAUACCGAAGAAGGGAGUUGAAAAUUGGUUGAAAGCUGUGAACGAGAUGAUUAGGGAAGCACAAGUUGUUGAAAACAAAGUCAGUAACGGGAGAUAUCUCUGUCGUGCUUGCAACGGGAAGCUGGUUGAUGAAAAGACUCGAGAAAUGAAGGGAUUUCUUGAUAAAGCUCCUAAUGCCUCUGAAGGUCUUGCCAUGGAUGGUCCAAGUGCUGGGUUGCCGCUGCCAACAUCAGAACUAGUUGGAGAGGAAGCUGUCAGAAAUGAGAUUUGGGCAUGUUUGAUGCAGGAGGAGGUGAGCAAGAUUGGGGUUUGGGGGAUGGGCGGUGUGGGUAAAACCACUAUCAUGAAGCACAUCCACAAUGAUCUUUUGAAACAGCAAAGAUUCGAAAGGGUAAUCUGGGUUACCAUAUCAAAGGAGUUCAAUGUAAUGAAAGUACAAGAUGAUAUUGCAGGUGCUUUGAAGUUGAAGGAAGAUUGGCCCAGAGAAGGAGACAAGCUCAGACGAGCAGCAAUCUUGUCAGAAAUGCUGAAGAACGCAGGAAAGCGUGUUCUAAUCCUAGAUGAUGUGUGGGAUAAAGUCUCUCUAGAGGAAGUUGGGAUCCCCGAGCCAAGUGGCAGCAAUGGCUGCAAGUUGGUGUUGACAACCCGUUCGGAGCAUGUCUGUAAGUAUAUGGGUUGUAAGGUGAUAAAAGUGAAGCCCCUUUCAGAAGAAGAGGCAUUGAUACUAUUCUUGAAUAAAGUUGGACCUAACAUAGUUCAAAGUCCAACUAUAAUGCCAACUCUGAAGCUUGUUGUCAAGGAAUGUGCGGGUCUACCUCUUACAAUUGUCGUGGUAGCUGGUACCAUGAAAGGAGAAGAUAACCCUCUUAUUUGGAAAAAUGCACUCGGGGAAUUAAAAGAGAGAAUUGGGAAAGUUGAAGGAGUGGAAGCUGAGGUAAUCGAGCGCUUGAAAUUUAGCUUCGAUCACUUAAAGGACGAGAAAGUGAAAUAUUGUUUCUUGCAUUGCGCAUUAUAUCCCGAAGAUUUUGAAAUUGAAAAGGAUGAACUAAUUGAAUGCUGGAUUGAAGAGGGAUUCAUAGAUGAUAUGGGUACGAGACAAGAAAUGAAAGGCAAGGGCCAUGUUAUUUUGAAGAAGUUGGAAGAUAAUUGCUUGUUAGAAAAUGUCUCGAGUGGAAAAAUGAAAAUGCAUGAUGCAGUGAGAGACAUGGCAUUGUCGAUCACAAGAAUGAAUCCUCGAUAUAUGAUACAAGCAGGUUUGCAAUUAGAAGAGUUACCAGAAAAGGAGCAAUGGAGUCCGGAUAUUGAGAAAGUGUCACUUAUGUAUAACUCCAUAUCAGAAAUUUCCAUACAUGUGCUGCCCACAAAAUGUCAACUGCUCACAACCUUGUUAUUGCAGCAUAACCCUAUAAAGAAGAUCUCAAUUUCUUUCUUCACAAACAUGCCCUGUCUUUGUGUCCUCAAUUUGUCCUUUACAAAGAUAGAGAGUUUACCAAAUUCCAUUUCUGAACUAAAGAACCUCACAACAUUGUUGCUUCGUGGCUGUGUAGAAUUAAGAGAUCUGCCAUGUCUUGCGAUGCUUCAAGAAUUGAAGAAGUUGGAUCUUUUUGCGACUAAAAUUGAGGAAGUCCCUGAAGGAAUGGGUAUGCUGAUAAAUCUAAGAUAUCUUGAUCUUAGAGUGCGCACUCUGAAAGAGAUACCCGCUGGACUUUUACCAAAACUCGUUCACCUUCAGCACUUGGGUUUUUAUGAGAGCAAUGAAAAAACAAGUCUAAAAGCAGAGGAGAUGGAACCAUUGAAGAAGUUGGAGUGCCUUACCGGACAUUUCAAAGACAUCAGUGAAUUCAAUAAGUUCAUCUCCUCAAUGCAACAAAGUAAGAAAAAUCUCAUCAAGUACUCUUUACAUGUGGGCUCAUCUCUUUUGCAUGCUGCAGGAGAUAAAAGAGUAACAAUUGGAGGAGUCCAGAAUUGGGAAGGUGAGUUAAUUAUGCACCCCAUUGAAAUUCAAGAGUUGCAUAUUAUUGAGUGUGACUAUUUGAUAAACUUAGUCGAUGAUAAUUCUUUCUUCAAAAAUGCGAUUGACUUGAGGGUUUGUAGAAUUUGGUGGUGUGAAGAGAUAGAGUGUCUUGUUCCCCUGUCCUCUUUUGCCUCUUCUUCCGCUCAUCCAUUUCAGAGCCUCGAGGUGUUAGAACUUUCUGAACUGCCAAAGUUGAGUGCCCUUAUUAUGAAUGAUGAAGGAAUUGGUUCAGCAAAAACAUCAACAUUGGCUCCGUCUACCACCUUUUCCCAUCUUAAGAAAAUUUGUGUAGGGAGAUGCUCAAGUAUGAAGACGUUGCUUCCACAUUGGUUGCUUCCAAACCUCCAAAACUUGGAAGAAAUCCGUGUGAUAGAAUGUGAUGAGAUAGUAGAAAUAUUGGGAGCAGAAACAUCAGAAGUUGAAGAAAAAGGGAGUGAUGCAUUAAUCAAAUUCCAUUUUCCCAAAUUGAGAGAAUUGAGACUAAGUAACUUACCAAAUUUGAAGAGCAUUUGCAGCAAAAGUGGAGUGAUGGUUUGUGAUUCUCUCGAGUUUAUCGAUGUUUAUAAGUGUGAUAAACUGAAGAGAAUUCCUCCAUUUGUUCCCCUUGUUGGGAAUGGGCAGCCAUUUGCAUAUGCUCCACCUUCUCUUACCAUCAGGUCAUGGAAAGAAUGGUGGGAAUCGUUGGAGUGGGAUGACCAUCCAAACUUUAAAAAUGUUCUUCGCUUCGACCCCUUUGGAGGAUAAGAGGUAUGAACCAUUUAUGGUUUAGUUUAUUUUCUUAUUUUAUAAACCUAAUUUCUCCAUUUUAAUAAAAUUGGAAGUAUAUUUGUGAUGAUUUUGAAGAGAAAGAGAAAAGGGUUGGUGGGAAAGAAGUAGGGGCGAGGAUAGUGCAAAAGAGAGGAGAAAAGGAAUGAUGGAAGAGUAUGGAGACAGAGAGGCAAAGGUAAAUUAGAAAUCCAAACACUGCCUCCACUUUUUAAACAUUGUCCCUCUCUCACCAUUCCUUCUAUUCUCUAAAAAAAAGUGUUCAUUUCUUUUAAAAUAUAUAUGUACUUCCCAAAAUAACCUUCUAUAUAUUCAUUUUUAUAAUUAAAACAUUUAAGUUAUAAAUUUCUGAAAAUUUAAAUAUCAAAUAUGUUUUAAAUCUUUAUAUUCUUCUUAUAUUUUAAAUUUAAUCUCUAUUUAUUUUUAAGAAUUUAUUCUCUUUAUUUUUUGGAUUUAAAAAUUUAAGUCUAGUUAUUAACAACAUUAACAUUAAAAUUCUUUUGUUAAAUUCGCUGGUGUGACAUGUUGAAAUUUUAAAAAAAAAAACUCUUAUUUGGUAGCCAUGUAACUGUUUUGCUCACUCAUUUAGCGUAUAAGGGCUAAUUUAUUAAUUUUUUAAAUAGAGAAGAGAAAACGAAAUUUAACUCCUAAAUUCCCAAUUUCAAUGACUUUUUCAAGUCUUCCAUACAAAAUGAGACAGAAUAAUUAAGAAUAGCGGCUAUACUAAGUUGAUAAGGUCAUUCUAUUUUGCUUUUCCUCUUCUUCAGAAAGCUCCCACACAAACAGAAACUGAAGAAGAUAUAGCAGCCGUUCCCCUUUUUUUCUUUUUUCUUUUUUCUGAAAAUCGAUAUGUCAAAGGAGCUCCAUUGGCAGCUUCUAUUUCGCUGUGGAUUUCACUUGUUUUCUUAUAGUCUUAUGUGGUUUUGGCCCAGAGAUUUGAGGAAACAUGGCCGGGAUUGUCGUCGGAAUCGUUUCGUUUGGUCUUCGCGAACCUGAAACUCGUCAUCCCUUCUGCGGCAAUGGUUUGGUGAGUUCAUUUUUUCCAAAUUAAAUUAUACAAUUUUGAAGAGUCAAACAAAAUUUGUCCUUGUAUUAUUUUAUAAUUUUUCAUUUUUUAAAGGACUAAACUUCUAAAUUUAUUAUUUUUGGGCUAAAGACUUAAGUCUAAUUAUUUUGAGUUGGGUUAAAUCUCAAAAUUAUACGUGAACUUUGAUUUAACGUGUAUACACGAACUUUAUUUUAGUACAAUUAUAUGCGUGAAACUUUAAUUGUAGUUCAAAUAUAUACUUGAAACUUUAAUUUUAAUUUUAUCAUACACAUUUAAAGAAAUAAACUUAUUUAUUUAUUUUUAUAUUAGAUAAAUAUAAUUACUUAUGCAUGCGAUAUAUAAACAUAAAAUGAUGUUAUAUUAAUAAUGGUGUUAAUAAUUUACAAGAAUUGGAUCAAAUCAAAAUUUCAUGUAUACAAUUACACAUUAAACCAUAGUUCAUGUAUAAUUUUGGUACAUAUCCUUUUUGAGUUUGAGUCAAAAGUAAGCAUUUGAUUAUUUUAAUCGGUUUGAUUUUUUUUAAUUUAACCGACUUAAUCGGCCUUAAUAUAGAAUAAUUGAACCGAUCGACUAAGAUAUUGUUAACGGAUUUAAUGAAACUGACUAAGAUGUCAUUAAUUGGGUUUGGGUCGGUUUUCGAGUUGGGUUAGGUUAGAUAAUUGGAUUUUAAGUUUGGGUAAUUUAAAUUAUAUCACAUAUUACAAAUAUAUUUAAAAUAAUUUAAAAAUAAUAAAUAAAUAAAUAUAAGUCAAUUAAGUUGAUCGAUUCAAUUAUAAAUUUUAGUCAUCGGUACUCCACUGUCCAAAUCGACAAAACCGAAUUAAUUAAAAUUAAUCAAAUCACCAAUUAAGUCGAUUAAAUCAGUCAUAACUGAAUAAUACUCUUUCCUAAUUUGAGUUAUUUGGAUUUUGUGGUCAAAUUUUAAGUCGGAACAAUUAGAAUUAAGUUCUUUUGAAUUCAAAUUAGUCUAAAUUAGAGUCAUUUUCAUUUCGGAUUUGAAUUUACCUAUAAAAAAUAAUGAUCCAACUAAAUUAAAAUUUAGAUAAUUUUUUUAAAUUAUUUUGAGCAGUUUGGAAUAUUGGGUGUUCGAGCUUCUGGUACUAUUAGCUGGAUUGAUGCCUAAUUCAGAAGUAACUACUUCCUUGAUUGCCAUGUGGUAUGCUUGCCUUUUAGGGGUGAAUCCAGAAAAUCUUUUUGAGGGGGACGAAAUGAAAUUUUAAUUUGUAAUAGUCUAUAUCUUUAUAAUUUUUAAAUGAUUAAAUUAAUUUUUUUUAAUUUUAAGGGGUUAAAGUGUAAUUUUAUCUUUAUUAAUUUAAAAAUUUUUAUUUUAAGGAGCCAGGCCUUACGAGCCCCUGGAUUUGCCUCUGAUUCCACUUUUAUACUUUUCACAAAAUCUUAAAUAGGGUUAAUUUUUUUGUAAACUCUCAUUGUUUAUUAUUUUGUUUUUAUUCCCCUUUAACACCAAAACUAAAAAGUUCUCUUACCCAUUAGUCCAGUUUAAAUUAUAUCUGGCAUAACAGUUAACAUUGUUGAUAGUAAUUCCCCUUUUUAAACAUUUUCCUUCUAUUCUCUUAUUCUUCUCUAAAAAAAAGACUUCAUUUCUUUUAAAAUAUAUAUGUACUUCCCAAAAUAACCUUCUAUAUAUUCAUUUUUAUAAUUAAAACAUUUAAGUUAUAAACUUAUUUUGAUAUGACGUCAAAUCAAAUAUUAUUUUUUUGAAUUUCUGAAAACUUAAAUAUCAAAAUAUGUUUUAGAUCUUUAUAUUCUUCUUAUAUUUUAAAUUUAAUCUCUAUUUAUUUUUAAGAAUUUAGUCUCUUUAUUUUUUGGAUUUAAAAAUUUAGGUCUAGUUAUUAACAACAUUAAAAUUCUUUUGUUAAAUUCGCUGGUGUGACAUGUUGAAAUUUAAAAAAAAAAAAGAAAAUUCUUAUUUGGUAGCCAUGUAACAAAAAAUAAUGACAAUCUAAUAACUUGAAUUUAACAGAGAAUUAAUUAAACAAUGUUGUCAAUUCUUAAAAAUUUACAUCAACAGUUUAAUUAGAAUACGAUGUUUAGACUAAUUAAUGACAUUUAAAAAAAGUGAAGUACCAAAUUAUGUCAAAAAUUAAGACAUAGAGAAUAAAUUUCCAAUCUGAACAUAUUUUAAGGACUAAAAUUGAAAACUAACUAUUGUUAUAUAAUUUCAAAAAGAAAAAUCAAUAAUUUAGUCAAAAUGAGGUAUUUAAAUUGACGAUGACAUUAAAAAGUUGAGGUAUCACAUUAUGUCAAAAAUUUAAAUUUAAAUAUUAAAAUUUAAAUUUAAGCUAAAUAUAAAAAUCAAAACUAAAAUUUGAUAUAUAAUUUCGAAAAAGAAAUAAUAAGUUGUGUAUUUGGAUAUGUAUAUGUAAAUAAAUCCGAAUGAAAUUUUAAUGAUAUUAUAAAAAUUAAAGUACAAAAUUAUGUUAUAAAUUAGUAAGCUUGAAGUAAAUCUCUUAAAAUUUCUUACUUUACUUACUUUUAUUUCCCUCGGUAAAUAAGGUUAGAUGCAUGAAUUGUUUGACUAUUAGUUUUCAAAUUUGUAAGCUUCAAGUAAAUAUCUUAAAAUGAAUUACUUCCCUCACUUAAAAGGUUAGAUGCAUGAAUUGUUUCACCAUUUAUUUUGUUUUUGUUUCCCUCAUUUAAAAUAUAUGAAAUUUUUUAUCACUCAAAUAAUAGUAAGAGUAAAUCACAUUGCAAGUCACUUUAAAAUAGCGUCAUUCUUAAUUUUUUUUGUCAAUUUAGUAACUUUAAUUAAGAUAAUUGCUCAAAUUGGUCACUAAUAUUAAAAUUUUCGUUAAUCCACUAACAAACUGUUGACAUGACUUCUUUUUUUUUUUACUUUUGACUAAAACUAGAGAUUCAUCUGUAAUUAGUCCAAAACACUUUAUUAUGGUUUAUUUGCUACAUAAAGCACUUUUUCCUUCUUGUUUAUUUCUUGGGAAAAGUAAUAAACAAAAAUAGGCUAUUUUACCAAAACAGUCCAAAAAAUAUUAUAUUUACAAAAAUAACCCAGGUUUAAAAACAAUCACCAAAAUAACCUAAAAUGAACAGUAAAAUUGGAUUGUGGCCUGUCAAUGGCCGGAACCCACUCGUAUUUUGCACCAUGAUUGCCUAAUAAUUGUGUCAAACUUAAAAAAAUUAAUUUUUUGGGUUUUGGCCUGUCAAUGGCCGGAACCCAUGUAUUUUUUUAAAAAAUUGUACAAUACUGAUAUACGAAAAAGGAAAAAGAAGAAAAAGGAAAAAAAAAAAUUUGAGUGCUGGCCUGUCAAUGGCUGGUACCUAGUACAAUUAAAAAAAAAUUACUUUUUUUCAUGUCAGAAUCAGAUAUCAGUAUACAAAAAAAUAAAAAAAAUUUUGGGUGCUAGCCUGUCAAUGGCCGGCACCCAGUACAAUUUAAAAAAAAUUCUUUUUUUUUUCAUGUCAGAAUCAAAUAUCAGUAUACUAAAAAAGUAAAAAAAAAAAUUUGGUGCUGGCCUAUCAAUGGCCGACACCUAGUACAAUUUUAAAAAAAAAAUUCUUUUUUUUCGUGUCCAAAUCAGAUAUCAGUAUACGAAAAAAGUAAAAAAAACUUUUUGGGGUGCUGGCCUGUCAAUGGCGGGCACCCAGUACAAUUAUAAAAAAAAAAUUUCUUUUUUUUUCAUGUCAAAAUCAGAUAUUAAUAUACGAAAAAAGUAAAAAAAUCUUUUUUUCGUGUCAGAAUCAUAUAUCAGCAUACAAUCAUUCUACAAUAUUAAUACAAAAAGUAUAAAUUAUUACCCGAUAAUAUAAAAAUACAAAUGUUUGAAAAAGCUAUUACACGAAAAUAUGACAGUAUAUAAUUCAACUCGAUUAAAAUAUGACAGUAUAUAAUUCAACCCCGAAAUUUUGUUGUACACUACGGAAAACUCCAUACACUAUCCGAUCCAAAAAAACUCAUUUCCUAAUACUACAAAACACUAUCAUUUUUAUGCCUCUCAAAAAAUUUUUCUCAUUCCAUUUACACUACAAUAACCCAAACCACUCACUAUAUAUAGAGUUUAAUGCCGGCCAUUAGAAGGUGGUGCCGGCCAUUGACAGGCCAGCACCCAAAAAUUUUUUAUUUUACUUUUUUCUUAUACUGAUAUCUGAUUCUGACACGAAAAAAAGGAAAAAAAAUUUUAUAAUUGUACUGGGUGCCGGCCAUUGACAGGCCAACACCAAUUUUUUUUUUACUUUUUACUUAUACUAAUAUUUGAUUCUUACACAAAAAAAAGGAAAUUUUUUUUUUAUAAUUGUACUGGGUGCCGGCCAUUGGCAGGCCAGCACCAAAAAAAUUUUUUUUUAUACUUUUUUCGUAUACUGAUAUUUGAUUCUGACAUGAAAAAAAAUGAAAUUUUUUUAUAAUUGUACUGGGUGCCGGCCAUUGAUAGGCUAGCACCAAAAUUUUUUUUUUUACUUUUUUCGUAUACUGAUAUCUGAUUCUGACACAAAAAAAAGGAAUUUUUUUAAAUUGUACUGGGUGCCGGCCAUUGACAAGCCAGCACCCAAAAUUUUUUUUUUUACUUUUUUCGUAUACUGAUAUCUGAUUCUGACACAAAAAAAAAGAUUUUUUUUUUUUAAAUUGUACUGGGUGCCGGCCAUUGACAGGCCAGCACCCAAAUUUUUUUUUUUCCUUUUUCUUAUAUCAGUAUUAUACAAUUUUAAAAAAAUACAUGGGUUCCGGCAAUUGACAGGUCAAAACCCAAAAAAUUAAUUUUUUUAAGUCUGACACAAUUAUUAGGCAAUUAUGGGUACAAAAUACAAGUGAGUUCCGGCCAUUGACAGGCCACAACCUAAUUUUACUGUUCAUUUUAGGUUAUUUUGGUGAUUAUUUUUAAACCUGGGUAUUUUUAUAAAUAUAAUAUUUUUUGGACUAUUUUGGUAAAAUAGCCAGAAAAAUAAGUAUAGUUUUGACUCUUUUAAAACAAGUCAACCCCAUUCUCACCUCAACUUGACAUCCUCAUCAUUGUUUCUCUUAUUUUCGUUCUAUCCUUGUUAUUUGUCAUGGGGUUCUUCUUAACCAUUGGUAAUCAAGUUCAUCUUGUGAAUUCAAUUUUCCAACAAAUCAAGCUAGCUUUAACAAUCCAAUAAUAUUUACACAACCAAAUUCAUCUUAGCAACACGUUGUAUCAAAAUCAACAAUUUUGCUAUAAAUUUUUUAAAAUAUUAAAAUUGUCAAAAAAGAGAGAGUACCAAUUAGCAAUACAGAAAAUAACACUAAAACCAGAGUUUUCAACGUCUAAAAUGCCGUUACUGCCAUAGAAGAAGUGUAGAGAGUUCUUUGAUGGUGAGAGAAAGCAUUACAAAUAAGCAAACAGUAUGCAGCGAAAGAAAAUGGAGAGAAAGACUACAACAAAUCCAUUAAUACUGAGCGUAGCAAUAAGUGAUGACCAGUAAGAUAGAGAAAGGGAAAUAUGGUUGGCUAUCAAACUUAACCAAGAAGUAAGUUGAAAGAAUUUCAGAAAGAAUCAUUUAAGAGUUCAAAAUGCUAAAAAAAUUCAAAAGUGCCAAAAAUCUUCUUGCCGGUGGCAAAAGGCUCCUAUUUAUUGUUUUUCAAUAAUAGGAGUUACAAAGUUAGAAAUUAAUGAGAGUAUUAAUAGAUAUUUUUAAGAUAGAAUUGCAUAUUAAUUAAGAAGUGAUAGUGAAAGGAUUUCCUGGUGAUGGGGAAUAAUGAAGAAGAAUUCACUAUGUUUCUAAAAGGAAAGAAAACCACUCAGCAUUAAAAGAAAAUGUUAAGAGGAAGCCUUUUAACUACCUUCAUAUUUGAUACACCAAGUCAAGCUCUCCAAAACAUUCCAAAAGUGAAGAUAACCCAAGAACUCUAUUAUAUUCUGAGAUUACUUCUGUUUCUUCCACUUUAAUGAAGUACCAUGUGAAACAUUUUUCGUGGAAGAUCUCUUAAAAUGCAAGACGAUAGUUGUUCUUGGAUAAAAGUUGUUCCUAAAUGAUUAUUUUGACUUGUUACAAACGUGAGUUGUUCUCAAUAUAAAGGUUGUUCCAGAUAAGAGAUGUUUUGUUGUGAUGUUUUUCUUGGUAAAACUUGUUUUGAAUAACGACUCUUUUGGGAAAAAAUAAUUUUUCUAAAUACAAAUUGUUCCAAACAAUAGUUGUUCUAAACAUAUAGCCAUUCCUGAAAUACUAUUAUUCUAAACAAGAGUUAUUCUCAAAUAACAAUUGUAGGGCACAAUUUUUUGCCCGGCCCGCUAAAGAAACCAAAAACAAAAAACCAAACAAAAACAAAAAUGGUUCAGUCCAGUUUUGUUACAAGCCCAAUAAGCCUAAAAGCCCAACUAACAGCCCAAACCCCCCAAAUCACCGAAACUCUAGCAGCAUUCAGCCUCCAGCAGACCUCAGCCGCCGCAAGACUCGGAAUCGGCCUCCUUCACAUGCGCCACUCCUUCAUGUUUGCCUGCAAAAUAGACUCAAAGAGUCCAACGGGGAAAAACAGUAUAAAAUAACAAAGAAAAUUGAAUUUGUUUUUCUUUUUCGGGCUAUAUAAAAGCCAUUUUAUUUUGUAAAGGGUGGGAGAGAAAAAUAGAAAAGAACAAACGAAAAAAGAAGAUCCAAAGAGAAGAUUAAAAUACAGAUUCGAAAAUUUUUUAACAAAGGUUUUUUCGCUUUAUUUUUUGUGUUCAUUAUUUUUUUCCCUUUCUCUGUUUAUUAUUGUUUUUAUAAAAAAGAGAGAGGAGGAGAUUACCUCUUUGUUGGAGUCGCCGAUUCGAUGCCAUCUCCGUCGUAAUCGGAGCUCUGGUACGAGGACAAAUGAGCGGCUACGUCAAAGGGUGAGGAGAGAAACCCUAGCAGAGCAAAUGUUUUGAAAAAAUAUGAAACAAAAUUGUUUUUUUGUGUUUAACUUAAAGUGCAGGCAAAACGGCACUGUUUAGUUGGGGGAGAUCCGAGCGUCGACCCGACCCGCAAGCAGGGUCCGCGCGUUCCUCAAAAGGGGGAAUUUUCGCAAUGAGGCCCCCCUUUUUGUGAUGUGUUUUAAUUAAACCCAUUUUAUUUUUUAAUUUGGCCCAAAUAUUUUACCUGUAUGGCAUUUUAGUCCACAUCGCUGCACAUCGUUUCGGGGAGGCGGAUUAUUUCUGAUUUGGCCCCCAUGUAAUUCGUGUGUCGCGAUUUGACCCACCAUUUUGCUUAAAUUUCAUUUAUUUCCUGUUGUUUUAGUUUUAUUGACUCUUUAGUCCUUUUUGCAAUUUGUUUUUUUAAGAAAAAUUUAUUUUUCUUCUUUUAUUAUUAUUAUUAUUAUUAUUAUUAUUAUUUCCACUUACGUUCAUACAUUUUUUUUAUAAUAUAUGUGCGUAUAUGUUUUAAACUUUUGUGGAAGAUAUACGUGUACAUAUUUUAUUUAUAUUUUAUUAUUAUUUUAUCUUCACAAUUUUUUUAUAUAAAUGUAUAUACAUAUACAUUUUUCUUAUUUUAUAAUCCAUGCACAUAUGCAUGUAUUGUUUAUAAUAUAUAUAUACAUAUUUUUUUUAGAAAUUAUUAUAAGUUGUUUUGUUUCAUAUAUUUCAUUCCUUUUCUGUUUUUUUAUAUGUAUACUUAUAUAUAUGUGUGUUUUAAUAUAUGCAUACACAUAUUUUCAAAUUUACUUAUAUAUUGUAUUUAUAUAUAUAGUUCAUAUUAAAGUAUUUAUUUUAUGUUGUAUAUUAACAUUUUAUCAUUUUUUUAAAAAGAAAAUAUAUUUGGUUUCAUCAAAGCAUUAAAACCAUUUUUAUUCAAAGGCUUUCAAGAUCAUGUAAAAUUCGAUAUUUGGAAUUUUCGAGGAAAUGGAGCCCUAACGUAUUGGGUUUCAAUUUUCUUUGUUAACCCUAAAUAAAUCGAGAAUAUUUCUUCAAAACGCAUAAAUAAAAAUCAUUUUCGGGAAUUCAACAUGUUGCGUCCUAAUGUAUUGGGUAUGACAUAUUGUUUUCUUGAAUUUUCCCAUAAAAAAGGGGUAAUAUUCAAAGUUUGGGGGUUUUUGAGAAAUUGUACUCUAACGUAUUGAGUCUCGAUUUCUUCAUCUAACUGAAACAAUUGAAUAUUCCCUAAAUAGGAGGAUUUUAAUAUGUAUACAAGUUUUUAAAUAUAAGGGUCAUAUUUUAAAAAUCUUUUCAAGCUUUUGACAUCAUGACAUUAAUAAUCAAUUUGGUACCAAUUUUGGGCGUUACGAGGGUGCUAACCCUUUCUCGUGCGUAACCGGCUCCCGAACCUAUUUUCUCAAAAUUUGUAGACCAAAAUAGUUUUUGAGGUGAGCCGAUCACACCUCAAUAAAUGAUCGGUGGUGACUCUAACUUUUGUUUUUUUUAAAGUCGACAACUAAAUUUUUGUUUUCAAAAAAACAGUUUCGACAACAAUUAUAUUGGAUGACAGCUGUUCUAACUAAAACUAUGUUUUGAAAUAGUUAUUCUGGACAAAGUUAUUCUAGAACAAUAGUUGUUUUGAAUAACUAUUCUAAACAAGAGUUGUUACUUCGGAAGAGAUAUGCUUGGUAGAACAAUUUGCUCAAAUAUAAUAUUCUUGAUUUCAAGGAAUAGAUAAAAUAUUAGUAAUCAAAAAUUGAGUAUUUACAAAAAUUUGAAAAUUGAAGUGUUAAAUUUGAUUUAUAAUUUUUUAUUUUACCAUUUUUAUCUUUACUUUUAACAUUUCAUGUUAAUUUAAUUUACAUAAAUUCUAAACCACAUUGAAUAUACAUAUAAAUAUUUGAAAUAAAUUAAAUUGAUGUUAGGAAAAACAAUUACUCAAUAAAGAAUAAAAAUUAUUAAAAAAAACUUAUAUUCGACAAAAAUAUAAUGAUAAUAAAAGAUCAUUUGUAACAAAAAGCCUUUAAGAAAAUGCGAAAAAUUAAUUAUGAUUUUAUAUUAAAUUUAUAUUCAAUUAAGCCAUUGUCAUUAAAUAAAAUUAAUUAAGCCCUCCAUUAAUAGAAUCUGUGAUUGACCGUUAAGAUAAAUUAAUGAAACAAUCAAAUAAUGACACGUGGUAACUUUUAAUUUAAUUUAAUAUUUUUUCAUACAAAUGUUAAAAAUCAUAAAAAUUAGAAUAAAAGGUAAAUAAAAAACAAAAGUAAGUGAUAUAUAAUGUUUAUAAAUUUCAAUUACUUUUCCUUUUUUCUUUUCUAAUUUUUGGUACAAACGAGAAGUGCAAUUUACCGAUAAUGUUUUUUUUUUUUUGCAAUUCCAAUAAUGUCUUUUUCUUAUGAAAAUUUAUUUUGUCUGCUUCUUGGCUUAAAAUUUGGUGUAAAAAUGAUAACACUAAAGGUGGUUUUAGAUGGACGGUGAUUGUGGUGUAAUGAAAUCUUUUAUUUCACAGUUACAGUAAUUAAUCUCAUCGCUACCACUAUUUUUAACCUUAUCGGAGGUAAUCACAUCCCCAAAGACACCCUAAAUCUAUUUACAACAAUAAUUAUUAUACUUUUUCAUAAAAAAACAAUAAUUAUUAUACGAAUAAUAAAAAAUGGUAAAAGUACGAUAAAACCUUUUAUCUUAUAUAUUGGAUUGCAUUUUAAUUUUUUAUUAAAAAAUUAGCCCAUAUAAAUUAGAUGACUGAGCAAAACACGUCCUUCCAUUUUGUUGUCUAUAUAUAAGAUAUAAUAAUAAAUUUAGCCCUCAGUCAUUACAUAUUUAUUCAAUUUGACCCUUACUUUUUUUUAUUGGAAGUAAAUUAAAAAAUUUUGAACUAAUAAACUAAAGGGUCAAAAAGGCCUUAGUAAUAAAAUUAAAAAAAAUCAAUUAAACCCAUUUAAAUUUUAAAAGUUAUUAAAAAUCUUAAAAAUUAUAAAUAAAAUUUACGAAAAUUUUAAAAAUAUAUUUUUAUUAAAAAAAGCAACACCUACCCAUUAAAAAAUAAUAGUUAGAAGAUUUUUUUUAAAAACAAUUGACCCUACUCUUUUAUUGAGUCAGUAUUGUUAUUUUUUAAUAAAAUUUUUUAUAAUUUUUAAAAAUCUUAAAAAUUUUAGCUUAAUUAAUUUUUUUUUAAAAAAUUUGUUACAAAGACCUUUUUGACCCAUUAGCUUCAUUAGUUUAAUUUUUUUAAAUUUACUUUCAAUAAAAAAAAGUAUAGGUCAAAUUGAAUAAAUGUGUAAAAUUUAGAACUAAAUUUGUUAUUAUACCUUAUAUAUAAACACCAAAAUAGAAGGACUGUUUUGCUCACUCAUUUAACGUAUAAGGGCUAAUUUACCAAUUUUUUAAAUAGAGAAGAAAAAACCAAAUUUAACUCCUAAAUUCCCUUUUUCAAUGACUUUUUCAAGUCUUCCAUACAAAAUUAGACAGAAUAAUUAAGAAUAGACGCUAUACUAAGUUGAUAAGGUCAUUCUAUUUUGCUGUUCCUCUUCCUCAGAAAGCUCCCAGACAAACUGAAACUGAAGAAGAUAUAGCAGCCGUUCCCCUUUUUUUUUGUUUUUGUUUUUUUUUUGAAAAUCGAUAUGUCAAACACGAAUAUUUCAGAAACGGUUCUGCUUUUACCGGAGAUCGAUGAUAACGACAACGAAGAUGGGAGGUGGUGGAAGAAUGUUUUGGAUUUGGAAGAGGCGAAGAAACAAGUGUUGUUUUCACUCCCAAUGAUUGUGACGAAUGUUGUGUAUUUUUCCAUACCUUUGGUGUCUGUCAUGUUUGCCGGUCACCUUGGGGAGCUUCAGCUUGCUGGUGCCACGCUUGCUAAUUCUUGGGCCACCGUCACUGGCUUUGCUUUCAUGGUUAGUUUUCACUAUUUUCUCAUUAUUCUUUAGGAUAACUUACGUACCCACUUAACUAUGGUUUUUUAUUUUUAUUUUUUUAGUCAAUGAAAAGUUAUAAAAUAGUCACUCAAUUAUUAGUAUUUUUUUUGUCACCAAAUUAUAAUAAGUUCCAAAAAUUGUCAUUCAACUAUUCAAUUUUGUCUUUUUUGGUCACACAACUAUAUUAGAUUUUGAGGUAUUUCUAUUUUUACGUUAGUCAAUUAGUGACCAAAAAGACAAAAUUGAAUAGUUGGGUGACAAAAAAAAAAGAAAAAAAAUCGUAGUUGGGUGACAUUUAUUGUACUUUACCUUUUUUUUAAUCUUUCAUGUUCAUUUUACAAUUCAUAUUUGAAGUUCGUGAUUCUUUUUUCUAAUAAUGUUAUCUCCAAGAUUUAAAUUCGUAUUCUCUCAUUAAGAGUGCAAUCUAUAUUACCAUUACACCAUACUCUUAUUGAUUAUUUUAUCAUUUGGUACCUAUAUUUUGCUUGAAUGUUUAAUUAAUUUGGUACUUCAACUUUUUUUGUCCCAAUUUGGUACCUGAGUUUGGCUUCAAUGUUCAAUUUGGUGCCUAAGUUUUUUCAAAUUGAUACUUGAGUUUUUCUUUGUCCCAUACAAAUACUUAAGUUUGACUUCAAUAUUCAAUUUAGCACUUGAGUUUUUCUUUUACUAAAACACAUUUGUCAAAUAUUUAUUGGACCACAUGUUGUUUAGUCGAGGUACCAAAUUAAACAUUGAAAUCAAACUUAGAUACUAAAUUGAGACAAAAGUACCUCAUAUGCCAAAUGGAACAUUGAAAUUAAAUAUAGGUACCAAAUAGUAUAUUAACCCUUUUAUCAUAACUUCAACAUUUUGUUUUUGUGGAUUUACUUGUUUGUUAGACAGGAUUAAGUGGAGCACUGGAAACACUUUGUGGUCAAGGAUUUGGUGCCAAAAUUUACAGAAUAUUGGGAAUUUACCUCCAAUCCUCAUGCAUAAUUUCCUGUUCUUUCGCCAUUCUAAUUUCAAUCUUAUGGUUCUUCACCGACCCCAUAUUGAUCUUCCUUCAACAAGACGCCGAAAUCUCCAAAACGGCGGCGCUUUACAUCAAAUAUCUCAUCCCAGGCUUAUUUGCUUACGGAUUGGUACAAAACAUACUGAGAUUCUUUCAGUCGCAAAGUAUUUUAAUGCCUCUGGUGUGGUUUUCGGUUCUGCCAUUGGCACUUCAUUUGGGCAUCGUUUACGCAUUGGUUAAUUGGACGAAUCUGGGUUUCAUAGGAGCUCCAUUGGCAGCUUCGAUUUCGCUGUGGAUUUCACUUGUUUUGUUAUCGUCUUAUGUGGUUUUGGCCCAGAGAUUUGAGGAAACAUGGCCGGGAUUGUCGUCGGAAUCAUUUCGUUUGGUCUUCGCGAACUUGAAACUCGCCAUCCCUUCUGCGGCAAUGGUUUGGUGAGUUCAUUUUUUCCAAAUUAAAUUAUAAAAUUUUGAAGAGUCAAACAAAAUUUGUCCUUGUAUUAUUUUUCAUUUUUUAAAGGACUAAACUUCUAAAUUUAUUAUUUUUAGGCUAAAGACUUAAGUCUAAUUAUUUUGUGUUGGGUUAAAUCUCAAAAUUAUACAUGAAAUUUGAUUUAACGUGCAAUUGUAUAUAUGAACUUUAUUUUAAUACAAUUAUAUGCGUAAAACUUUAAUUGUGGUUCAAAUAUAUACUUGAAACUUUAAUGUUGCUUCAAUCCUACGUAUUUAAAGAAAUAAACUUAUUUAUUUUUAUAUUAGAUAAAUAUAAUUAUUUAUGUAUGCGAUAUAUAAACAUAAAAUGAUGUUAUAUUAAUAAUGGUGUUAAUAAUUUACAAGAAUUAGAUCAAAUCAAAAUUUCAUGUAUACAAUUGCACAUUAAACCAUAGUUCAUGUAUAAUUUUGGUACAUAUCCUUUUUGAGUUUGAGUCAAAAGUAAGCAUUUGAUUAUUUUGAUCGGUUUGAUUUUUUUUUUAAUUUAACCGACUUAAUCGGCCUUAAUAUAAAAUAAUUGAACUGAUCGACUAAGAUAUUGUUAACCGAUUUAAUGAAACUGACUAAGAUGUCAUUAAUUGGGUUUGGGUCGGUUUUCGAGUUGGGUUAGGUUAGAUAAUUGAAUUUUAAGUUUGGGUAAUUUAAAUUAUAUCACACAUUACAAAUAUAUUUAAAAUAAUUUAAAAAUAAUAAAUAAAUAUAAGUCAGUUAAGUUGAUCGAUUCAAUUAUAAAUUUUAGUCAUCGGUACUCCACUGUCCAAAUCGACAAAACUGAAUUAAUUAAAAUUAAUCAAAUCGUCAAUUAAGUCGAUUAAAUCAAUCAUAACUGAAUAAUACUCUUUCCUAAUUUGAGCUAUUUGGAUUUUUUGGUCAAAUUUUAAGUCGGAACAAUUAGAAUUAAGUUCUUUUGAAUUCAAAUUAGUCUAAAUUAGAGUCAUUUUCAUUUCGGAUUUGAAUUUAAUUGUUAAAAAUAAUGAUGUCAACUAAAUUAAAAUUUAGAUAAUUUUUUAAAAUUGUUUUGAGCAGUUUGGAAUAUUGGGCGAUCGAGCUUCUGGUACUAUUAGCAGGAUUGAUGCCUAAUUCAGAAGUAACUACUUCCUUGAUUGCCAUGUGGUAUGCUUGCCUUUUAGGGGUGAAUCCAAAAAAUCUUUUUGAGGGGCCGAAAUGAAAUUUUAAUUUUUAAUAGUUUAUAUCUUUAUAAUUUUUAAAUGAUUAAAUUAAAAUUUUUUAAUUUUAAGGGGUUAAAGUGUAAUUUUAUCUUUAUUAAUUUAAAACUUUUCAUUUUAAGGAGCCACCCUGGAUUUGCCUCUGCUUCCACUUUUAUACUUUUCACUGGAUCCAUUUAAAGAUUUCAAGAUUAAUGGAAUUUGAGUAAAAUAUUUUAUUUCAGUGUGAAUACAGAAUCAAUUGCGUACAUGAUUACUUACGGACUUAGCGCUGCAGCAAGGUGAGUUCAAUUUUAUUAUUAUCUUAAUUAAUUUACGGAUUUUAAGCUAAUUUAAUUGAAACAGCACGAGGGUUUCGAAUGAAUUGGGGGCUGAGAAUCCGAGGAAGGCAAAGACCGCCAUGGCUGUGUCACUCAAGCUUUCAAUCCUUCUCGCUCUAACAGCGGUUGUUGCAUUAGCAUUUGGGCAUAACAUAUGGGCUGCUUCCUUCACCAACACUGCUUCCAUUAUCAACCAAUUUGCUUCAAUCACACCCUUCCUUUUAAUCUCCAUUACUAUUGAUUCUUUUCAAGGCAUCUUAUCAGGUAAUUUCAGAAACAAAAAACAGACAACUGAGUGAAGAAAUGGAAGGAUUAAAAUGAAAUGAAUAAAAUGUUGCAGGGGUGGCCAGAGGAAGCGGAUGGCAGGUGUUGGCUGUGUGGGCCAACUUGGGGACCUUUUAUUUAAGCAGGGCUUCUUGCUUUUAAAUUUAAGCUUUAUGCUAAGGUGAGUGUCUCAGCUAGAUAUCAGUUUGACUGCUCUAAUUAAUUUAUUCCAUUUAAAAACAUAAUUUUUUUCAUAAGUCCUCUGGAUAAAUAAUUUUGUUCUCAAUCUUUCCUUAAUUAUUCACAUUUUAAUGGAAUUUAACCUUUUUUUUAUAUAUAUUUUUUCUUUCAUCAGGGUUUGUGGAUAGGGUUGAUAUGUGGUCUUUCAUGCCAAGCUGGUGCCCUCCUGCUUAUUACUUUGUGUAGAAAAUGGACUAAAAUUGAACUUUCCUAACAAAUUAAUAUUGAACCAUAGUUCAAUCUUAACUAAUCUUCAUACUUUAUGAGUAUUCAUUUGUCGAGACUUAUUUAAAAUAGUGAAUUUGAAAUUUAAAUGAUUCGAGUUUGUUGAUAUGUUAAAUAAAGGAGGGAAAGGAUUUUCUAGUGAAGAAGCAAGGAAGAAGAUCAUGGAAUGGAGUGUCUAAAGUGUCGUUCCUUAAAGAGUAUUUUUAAAUUUAUAUUCCGGAUGAAAUUAUGAUAUAUUUUAUUAUAAUUGUAUAAUAAAGUUCAAAUUUUGUUAUGUUUUUUUUGUUCUAAUAUUGGAGAUCCUUUUAAUAAAAAGUGACUAGAAAUUAUAAUUGGAUAUUUACAAAUUUUUUAAAUAAAUUCUCUUGAUUUACCUAAAUAUGUUUUCUUAUUAUUAUUUGAAUGAUUAAAAUAGCAAUAUUCUUUGAAUAUUAUUUUUCAAAAAAACCAAUUAAGCUUUUACUCUUUUUUUUUUUUCACUCAAUUGGAUACUUGAGCUGCAAAAUGCAUGAAAAAGGCCAUCGAACUUUAAAAAAAAAACCAAUUAAGCUCCAACUUUUAUUCCCACUCAAUUAGGUACUUGAACUAUAAAAUGCAUAAAAAAGCCUCUCAAACUUAAAAAAAAAAAAAACAAUUAAGCUCUUAUUCUUGUUUUUUAUUUUGCAUUCAAUUGAGUACUUCAACAGCUAAAAUGCAUAAAAAAGACCAUUUGACCGUUAACUUUAAUGUUAACCGUUAAAAUUAACGCUCCUAAUUUAUUUCAAUUAAAGCCACCAUGUGUCACAACCAUUGUGUGACAUGUGGUAAAAAUGAUAAAAAUAAAAAUUUAUAAAAUUUAUAAAAAUAAUUAAAUUUUAAUAAAAAUAUUUAAAAUUGAUUAAAAAUAGAAUAAAACUAUAAAAAUUAUAAAAUAUAUAGAACUGUAAAAUAUAUAAAAAUGUAAAAAAUUUUUAAAAUUAUUCCCGCAAAAAUUAUAAAAUUUUAUAAAGCAGUAAGAAAAUUAUAAAAAAUGUAAAGAAAUAUAAAUUUAUAAAAAAAUUAUAAAAAUUAUCAUACCAAAAUAAGUAUUUUAUAAUUUUUCUAUAACUCUUAUUAAUUUUUAAUUUUUAUCAUUUUUUGUCGCAUGUCACAUUGUAUUGUUACACAUUAUGGCUUUAAUUGGAAAUAAAAAAGAAGAAAUCUAAGGGUUAAAGUUAAUGUUUAAAUGGUCCUUUUGGUACAUUUUAUAUUUUUUUAUGAUUUUUAUAAAAGUUUACAAUCUUUAUAAAUUUUUGUACAAUUUUUAUAAUUUUUUACUAAUAAGAAUAGGAUUUCUUACUAAUAAUUCUGCCUCUGUGGAUCCCACCAGAGACUUCAUAAUUUGCCUGUUUUUAUCUUCACUUUCUUCUUACUUCUUCUUCACUGCUUUUAAUUUGUUUCGAUGUCCAAGUUCUAUCACAAAUUUUGAAGCAUCCAGUCAAGGUAAUUUUCUUUCAUUUCCUUAAUUCAUGGCGUGCUUUUCUUUGCUUUGAUUAUCUGCAACUGUUAUAGCAGCUAGCUUUGUAAGAUUGUCAAGGAACUCAACUUCACUGCUUCCUUUUCAGUUCUAAUCUCUCAGCACUUUUCAGCCACUAAGUCAGGUAAUAAGAUCUGAAGCAAUUAUUCAUUGCCAACUUCAACGAUUUUGUUUUGAUGUCCAAGGUCUAUCACAAAAUUUCAAUCAUCCUGUCAAGCUAAUUAUCUUUCAUUUCCUUAAUCCAUCACAUGCUUUUCUUUGCUUCAUUCAUGACUUUGCAAUGAUUGUUGCUGACUAUCUGCUACUCUUAGCAGCUAGCUUUGUAAGACAGUCAACUUCACUGCUUCAUUUUCAGUUCUAUUCUCUUAACACUUUUCAGCCACUAAAUCAGGUAAUAAGAUCUGAAGCUAUGAUUUCCUCUACUGAUUAUCAACAGUUUUAGACUUUAAGAUAAGAUGAUCAGCAGACAUAAUCUACUCUAGAUUGAAAUUAAUACAGAAAGAGCUACCUAGAAGCAAUAUAAUGUUGAAAUCUCAUACUGUUAACAUUUUAACUCUUAAUAUUCUGUAAUGAACUGUUGCACACUUGAAUCUAGCAUUUCAUAUACAUCGAGAGCUUAAUUCUGGUGACCAGAAUUUCAUCAUGUUUCUGUCUGCCACCCAUCCAUAGCUCCAUCUAAUAAACGCCAUUGCUUGAAACUUGCAUUCAUGCUUACACUGACAUAUCAAUACUUCAUAAAAUAUCCAAUUCAUUCACAGAUUUUCAUUCUCUGCUACUGUUAUAUAUGAUUGCAUUGCAGGGACAUAGCAAUGGAGUACGUAGAGCCUGUUGUCGGUAUUGCAAAUUGUCUCGGAACUCCUGUUUGUAAAUAUUUGCAAUAUCACAGAAAGCUGAACGAUUAUGUGAGAAACUUCAAGAGGAUCAGAGAUGAAUUGCAUUGCAAAAUGGAAGAUAUAGAGCUGCAAUUGAAAGCAGAGCUUCUUCGUCCUCUGGGUAAAAUACCAAAGCAGGGAGUUGAAAAUUGGUUGAAAGCUGUGAAUGAGAUGAUUAGGGAAGCACAAGUUGUUGAAAACAAAGUCAGUAACGGGAGAUAUCUCUGUCGUGCUUGCAACGGGAAGCUGGUUGAUGAAAAGACUCAAGAAAUGAAGGAAUUUCUUAAUAACGCUCCUAAGGCCUCUGAAGGUCUUGCCAUGGAUGGUCCAAGUGGUGGGUUGCCACUGCCAACAUCAGAACUAGUUGGAGAAGAAGCUGUCAGAAAUGAGAUUUGGGCAUGUUUGAUGCAGGAGGAGGUGAGCAAGACUGGGGUUUGGGGGAUGGGCGGUGUGGGUAAAACCACUAUCAUGAAGCACAUCCACAAUGAUCUUUUGAAACAACAAAGAUUCGAAAGGGUAAUCUGGGUUACCAUAUCAAAGGAGUUCAAUGUAAUGAAGGUACAAGAUAAAAUUGCAAGUGCGUUGGAGUCGAAGGAAUAUUUAGACAAAGAAGAGGACAAGCUCAGACGAGCUGCAAUCUUGUCAGAAAUGCUGAAGAACGCAGGAAAGCAUGUUCUAAUCCUAGAUGAUGUGUGGGAUAAAGUCUCUCUAGAGGAAGUUGGGAUCCCCGAGCCAAGUGGCAGCAAUGGCUGCAAGUUGGUGUUGACAACCCGUUUGGAGCAUGUCUGUAAGUAUAUGGGUUGUAAGGUGAUAAAAGUGAAGCCCCUUUCAGAAGAAGAGGCAUUGAUACUAUUCUUGAAUAAAGUUGGACCUAACAUAGUUCAAAGUCCAACUAUAAUGCCUACUUUGAAGCUUGUUGUCAAGGAAUGUGCGGGUCUACCUCUUACGAUUGUUGUGGUAGCUGGUACCAUGAAAGGAGAAGAUAACCCUCUUAUUUGGAAAAAUGCACUCGGGGAAUUAAAAGAGAGAAUAGGGAAAGUUGAAGGAGUGGAAGCUGAGGUAAUCGAGCGCUUGACAUUUAGCUUCGAUCACUUAAAGGACGAGAAAGUGAAAUAUUGUUUCUUACAUUGCGCAUUAUAUCCCGAAGAUUUUGAAGUUGAAAAGGAUGAACUAAUUGAGUGCUGGAUUGAGGAGGGAUUCAUAGAUGAUAUGGGUACAAGACAAGAAAUGAAAGACAAGGGCCAUGUUAUUUUGAAAAAGUUAGGAGAUAACUGCUUGUUGGAAAAUAUUACUAAUGUAUUUGGUCAACCUCGCGUAAAGAUGCAUGAUGCAGUGAGAGACAUGGCACUGUCGAUCACAAGUAUGAAUUCUCGAUAUAUAGUACAAGCAGGCUUGCAAUUAAAAGAAUUACCGAAAAGGGGGCAAUGGAGUCCAGAUAUUGAGAAAGUGUCGCUUAUGCAUAACUCCAUAACGGAAUUUCCCGCAGAUGUGCUGCCCACAAAAUGUCAAUUGCUCACAACCUUGUUAUUGCAGGUGAAUCCUAUAAAGAAGAUCCCAUAUUCUUUCUUCAUAAACAUGCCCUGUCUUUGUGUCCUAAAUUUGUCCUAUACGGAGAUCGAGAGUUUACCAAAUUCCAUCUCUGAACUAAAGAACCUCACAACAUUGUUGCUUUGUUGCUGUUUUCAAUUAAGAGAUAUACCAUGUCUUUCGAUGCUUCAAGAACUGAAGAAGUUGGAUCUUUAUAGGACUAAAAUUGAGGAAGUCCCUGAAGGAAUGGAUAUGCUGAUAAAGCUAAGAUAUCUUGAUCUUAGUGUGCGCACUCUGAAAGAGAUACCCGCUGGACUUUUACCAAAACUCGUUCACCUUCAGCACUUGGGUUUUGAUAAACAAAUAAGUCUAAAAGCAGAGGAGAUGGAACCAUUGAAGAAGUUGGAGUGCUUUACCGGACGUUUCGAAGACAUCAAUGAAUUCAAUAAGUUCAUCUCCUCAUUGCAACAAAGUAAGAAAAAUCUCAUCAAGUACCAUUUACUUGUGGGCUCAUAUCUCAUCAAGUACCAUUUACUUGUGGGCUCAUCUUUUAUGCCUACUGCAAGAGAUAAAACAGUAACAAUUGAAGGAGUCCAGAAUUGGGAAGGUGAGUUAAUUAUGCACCCAAUUGAAAUUCAAGGGUUGAAUAUUGUAGAGUGCGGCUAUUUGAGAAACUUAGUCGAUGGUAAUUCUUCCUUCAAAAAUGUGAUUGACUUGAGGGUUCGGUUUUGUGAAGGGAUAGAGUGUGUUAUUUCCUUGUCCUCUUUUGCCUCUUCUUCCGCUCAUCCAUUUCAGAGCCUCGAGAUGUUGGAUCUUCAACAUCUGCCAAAGUUGAGUGCCAUUAUUAUGAAUGAUGCAGGAAUUGGUUCAGCAACAACAUCAACAUUGGCUCCGUCUGCCACAUUUUCUCAUCUUAAGGAAAUUACGAUAGUGAACUGCUCAAGUAUGAAGACGUUGCUUCCACAUUGGUUGCUUCCAAACCUCCAAAACCUGGAAGAAAUACAUGUGGGUGCUUGUAGUCAGCUAGUAGAAAUAUUGGGAGCAGCAACAUUAGAAGUUGAAGAAAAAGAGAGCGAUGCAUUAAUCAAAUUCCUUCUUCCCAAAUUGAGAGAGUUGACAUUCUCCGAAUUACCAAAUUUGAAGAGCAUAUGCAGCAGAAGUGGAGUGAUGGUUUGUGAUUCUCUCCAAAUUAUCCGUAUUACUAGAUGUGAUAAACUGAAGAGAAUUCCUCCAUUUGUUCCCCUUGUUGGCAAUGGGCAGCCAUUUGCAUAUGCUCCACCUUCUCUUACCAUCGCGUCAUGGAAAGAAUGGUGGGAAUGGUUGGAGUGGGAUGACCAUCCAAACUUUAAAAAUGUUCUUCGCUUCAACCCCUUUGGAGGAUAAGAGGUAUGAACCAUUUAUGGUUUAAUUUAUUUUUUUAGUUUGAUAAAUCUAAUUUCUCCAUAUUAAUAAAAUUUGAAGUAAAUUUGUGAUGAUGUUGAAGAGAAACUACAAAAUAUAUAUAAGGGAAGUUUUUCGAGUAAAAUUCCGGAUAGAGCUAUGAUAUAUUUUACUAAAAUUGUAUAAUAAAGUUCAAAUUUUAUUAUGUUUUUUUUUGUUAUAAUAUUGGAGAUCCUUUUAAUAACAAAGAGACUACAAAUGAUAAUUAGAUAUUUACAAAUUUUUUAAAUAAAUUCUCUUGGUUUACUUAAAUAAGUUUUCUUAUGUGUUUAUUGCCUACAUAUUAUUAUUUGAAUGAUUAAAAUAGCAAUAUAAUUUGAAUAUUAUUUUCACCUACAAAAUUACUUUCACAAUGACUGUGGGUCAAGUUAAUUUGACUCGGGUCAAUUUAAAAUUCAAAUAUUUUAUAAAUAUAUUGUAUAAGGUUUAAUGGUGUAAAAAGUUUUCAAUUUUUUUCAAAAAAAAGUAAUUAAGUCUAAUUUUUUUUAUUUUACAUUCAAUUGAGUACUUAAAUUUUCAAAAUGCAUAAAAAAGGACUUCAAUUUUUUUCAAAAAAAAAAGGCAAGUGGUAUCGAUGAAGUCUCAGCAUAGCUACUGAAUGUCAUCAGUACGAAGCCAAGUGGUUCAAGAUGGCGUUUUGCGUUCCUGAUGGCCUUCAAGAGGUCUGCCUCGCUUGUUUUGUCCAUAUCAACACUCAAAACACUAUUCCGUCGUUCGACAAAUUGGAACUGCAGAGAGUUGUUAUGGAAACCGGUUAACUUGAGAACUGUCUCCAACUCGGUAUCGAUACAGGCCUGGAAAGACAAUUAAGACACUUUAUUAACCAAAAGAAAUCUAAUAUUUCAAAUCUAAAACAAAUGGGAAAUAUUACCCGUGAAAUUUGUAACGACAACCUCGUAAUAUUGACCGAGUUUCACAUUUGUAAAAUCAACAUGUUCAACAUUUCCGUUUGCAUUUAUCAUUUCUGACAACCAUUGGCUUGAAACACCAUCAAGAUUGGAUUCUCGAGCCUUCUCUUCCCCGUCUUUAUCCACAGGGAGAAACUCAAAGUAUGCCAUGUUUGGGAGAAAGGUGUAAGAGACAUCGUAGGGGUUGCUUAAAGGAUUUAAAUUGACCCCGAAAGUAGACUCCGAAGAACCAUAACUUGGUGAAACUAAAGGGAUCCCACCACCAUAAAAAUCAAGCAACGAAAUGUAUUGGCUCAUGGUACCAGUAAUGACGGAAUUAAUAUAUUUUGCUUUAGGCCAAAGUUUCUUAAUAAUCCCUUCCCAUGAUUCAUUGCCACAUAUGUGUUCAAUCGUAUCAGCCAAAUCUGGAUUAGGCCUAGUCAGGAUCGAUGACACUGCGUUCCUACAACCAGGGUCAGUAAUCCAAUCACUAAGGCAACCAGUUCUUAUGUUCGAACAAAGUUCGUUCCAGUAAUCUUCUAAGAACUUGAUGCUCCUUGCCAAAACGGAUCCAAAGAUCGAACUGAUUGAAACAACAUGAUCACGUUGCAGCAAACCAGUAAGCAAUUGGCAGUACAUACUUUGCUUGUGGUCCAAGCAGAGAAUCGUCUCAACAGGACUUGUGCAGAUUUUGGGCACACUUUUCUUGAAGCUAUCGCUCAUGAAAUAGCACGAUGAGAGCGUCUCACUAUUAAACCUGAUGGAGUUUCACUCCCUUUUUUGACAAAAAAAAGGCUCAUUGUUUUGCCUUUUUCCAAGCCAUCAAAAUAUCUGUCAUACCAUUAAAAGAAUGAAAAGAAAAGAGCAAGUUAAACUAGUUAUUUCUUUAGACUAUGUUACCCGAACACCGGUGCAAGUGUGUGAAGUGUGAUAUAUAUAGACGUAAAUUUUUCCCAAGAUGCUUAUGUAUCUACAUCAUUCUUCAAACUGAUAUCCUUAUAUGCACCAAAAUGAGUGUUAAACAUGGAUGCUAGCAAAAAUAAAGAGUCGGGAGUAAAAUAGAUUUAAGCUGCAUAGUAAUAAGUAAGGGCAAAAUACCAAUAAAAGCCCCUUUUUUUAAAAAAAUUAUUGAAAUGGGCUAGGUAAAAAAUUAAUUAUCGAAAUGGCCCUAUUUCCCCGAAAAUGCAUUCACAUCAGCGCGUUGUCAGGUGACGAAGCAGGAAAAUGCUUCCUUUUACCCACGUUUCCUACGUUAGGGUUAGGGUUUUGGGUGUUUAGUGUAGGGCUUAGGGUUAGGGUUUAGGGUAUAGGGUCAAGGUUUUGGGGUUUUUAGGUUUAGAGUUUUUAAGAAAAAAUUAAAUAAAUAAGGGAUUAGAGUUUAGGAUUUCUUAAUUAAAUUAAUUAUAAAUUUUUUAAAAUUAGAUUAGGGUUUCGUGUUUAUAGUAUUUAAAUAAAAAAUUAAUUAAAUUAUGGUUUAGGGCUACUUGAGUAAAUUAAUUAAAUUUUUAAAAAAAUCAUAUUAGGGUAAUAGUUUUUAAGGAAAAAUCAAAUAAAUUAGGGUUUAAGGUUACUUGAGUAAAUUAAUUAUAAAAUUUUAAAAAAAAAUAGAUUAGGGUUUAGUGUUUAAGGUUUUUAAAGAAAAAAUCAAAUAAAUUAGGGUUUUGGGUUUAGGGUUACCUAAUUAAAUUAUUUGUUAAUUUAAAAAAAUUCCCACGUGGACGCGCUUUUGCUACAGUAGCUACUAAAAAAAUAAUUUUGAGAAGACAUUUCUGAGCAAAUAGUGUCAAAAACGCUUUAAGCAGGAUGCUUUGUCAACAAAAGUACUAAAAGAAGCUCCCACGUGGACGCGCUUUUGCUACAGUAGCUCUUGAAAAAAUAAUUUCGAGUAGACGUUUCUGAGCAAAUAGUGUCAAAAACGCUUUAAGCAGAAUGCUUUGUCAGCAAAAGUACUGAAAGAAGCUCCCACGUGGAUGCGUUUUUGCUACAGUAGCUCCUGAAAAAAUAAUUUCGAGUAGACGUUUCUAAGCAAAUAGUGUCAAAAACGCAUUAAGCACGAUGCUUUGUCAGCAAAAGUACUGAAAGAAGCUCCCACGUGGACGCGCUUUUGCUACAGUAGCUUCUGUUUGGCCUGAGGAUAUAAAUGAGGCAAAAGUUUUUAUCAGAUUGUAUAAGUUACAGCAAAAAAAAGUUAGAUAGGCUAAGAAGGAUAGAAAUUGAAGAUGAGUGAAUGUAUUAGUGUUGUUAUUUACUAUGAUGGUGAGGUUCGUCACACCGAGAAUGGUGUUAUUUUUUAUCGAAAAAUAUAGUGUGACUGAUUUUUAACCGGAACAUAGAUUUGACAGAAUUUCGUAAAAGAAUUAGGCGUAAAAGAAUUAGGCGUAUCGGUUUUGUUCUUCUAUUGAUCCAGUGACAUGACUCGUUCGACAUAAAAGGUGCUCGUAACUUGAAGGCAAUGAUGCAAACUCGUCUCGCUAGUGGAGCAUCUUAUAUUGAGUUAUAUGUACAAUUUACAUCACCAAAUGAUGUACUUGCGACUAUUGUUUGAGAGGUAUACAUGACCCCUGCCUGACACUCGGUUAGUGGGUUACAAAACACGUAAUAGCCUAUGUUUGGUAGCGAUAUAGAAUACACAAUCCCUGCACAACACUCUGUCAGUGGAUGGGACAUGCACCUCGGUGGAUCAAUGUUUGAUGUUAGAAAUACGUACUGGGGAACGGCAUCAACUUCUAGUGGUUGGCAAUCUACAUCGAAUUGGGGAUGUUGUGAAAUGCCUAGAAGAAAGGAUGAUGUACUCCUUAAAACGUCAACGAUGAAGGGACCUCGUACGUUUCAGAUGAUGGUGGGUCAGAAGAUGACACCGAUGUGCAUCCACCUUGAGAGUCCGGGCCCGAUGGUGCAGAAGUUGCACUAUUUUCUAAAUCAGAGCCUAUUCCAACUGAACCUGAAGAUGUUGAAGGGGGUUCAGAUGAAGAAAAAGAUUCACAAUUCAGGGCAUACUCACCUCCAGCCCAUAUGCAUAAUGUCGAUCCGUCUGCAAAUGAUGCGCUGGAGUUUCUAGAUCUCUCACACAGGUUGCAUGAUCGUACAAGUUCGCUACUAGAUUUGGGUGAAUUUGAAGUUGGUAAUGAUUUUUCCAACAAGGAUAGGUUUAUUGGUGUAUUAAAACAGCAUAGCAUUAAUAACGACGUUAACUACCAUGUGGUUAAAUCCAAAGCUGAUAAGUUUAAGGCGAAGUGUGCAGUGCAAGACGGUACAUGUUCAUGGAAAAUCUACGCCUCGUUAAGGAAAAUGACAGGAUUGUGGGAGAUAAAAAAGUACAAAGGUUCACAUACAUGUGCUGCAGGUACAUUAUUUAAGGUUUCUAAAUAAUAUUGUUAUUAUGUAAUGUUGCAUUAAAUAAUGCACUCCGUUGAUGGGUAUUUCAUAAGAUCAUCCCAAGAAGGAUUCAGCUAUGUUAGCUAGCUUGAUACUACCCACGGUGAAGGCAAAUCCCAAGUCUUCAGUGCCGGUCCUAAUUGCCAAUAUUCGUAGCCAAAUGAGGUACACGCCCUCUUACCGCAAGGCUUGGAUAGCUAAGCAGAAGGCGUUGGAGAAGAUGCGUAGUGGAUGAGACGCUUUAUAUAAUGAAAUAUGGUAGUGGUGUCAAGUGCUAGAGAGAUACAUCCUAGGUUGCAUAACAGACCUUGAAACGGAACAUGCAUACUAUAACGGUCGAUUGCUACGUGGAUGCCAAGUGUUCAAAUGCUUGUUUUAGACCUUUAUGUUUGGUAGAUAUACCCAUCGGCUAUUACUAGCAGUGGCACAUGAUGACAGUUUGAGAAUUCUUCCAAUUGCAUUUGCAAUAACACCGAGGGAGUCAGCAGAUGACUGAGAUUUCUUUCUAUCUAGGUUAAGGAGACACGUGUGCCCCCAACUUGAUAUCUAUGUUAUUUUGGAUCAGGGCACCGGAAUACUAACUGCAAUUGAUUGACAGGGAAGCUUAUGGCAGCGCACAAACCAUCAGUAUUGUUUAAGGCACGUUGCUUCCAACUACUACAGGCAAUAUCCAUCUAAGAGUGAAUGACGACAAGUGACCUGUUAGAGUAUGCCCAAAGAUCAAUCAUGAGAUGGUUGUAAUAACAUACUUGAUUUAUCAUGUUUAUUAAUAUAAGGCGUUACCAUUAUUAUUUCAGUUUCUUUUUUGUGUAUAUAAAUAAACUGUUUUAUAAUAAUGUCCUGAGAAUAAUAUGAUUAUUCUUAAAAGUUUCUUAGUCAAGUAUUAUUGUUGGAUAGGACAACGAUAAUGCAUUAAGACUAACAUGUAGUUGAUUGAUGAUAAAGAGUUGUCAUUGAUAUGGAAUGUCAGAAUCAUUACAUGAAUAUGUGUGUUAGAUAACAACAUAUUGGACUGGCCCGUUAUGAGUAUGUUUCUUAGAUUAUUAUGUAAUUGCCACGACAUUACUCAUAAUGAUUAAUAUUUAUAUGAUCCACAGACUUGAGAUCAUCAUAAUCCCAACAUCGUGAGUUGUAUAUUUUGAUACAGUCAAACGUACACUGUAACUGAUUGUUCUAUAAAGACUGAUGUUGGAUAUAUCACAAUCUAUGUAGAGGGAUAUGGUUGGUCGAUAUAGGAUAAGUCCCUCUUACAUAAUAGGAGUAAUAUCUUAGGCCACUUGAUUAAGUGAGACUAGAAAUGCAUGGUCAUGCUCAAAUAAGUUGAUAUUAGAUGUCAUACUUAUUUGUAUAUCGUAGUCUGCUUAAGAUAUCAAGGAACAUGGAAUGGACAAUGCAAGUGUGACUAUUCCAUGACUUGUGUCCAAUCCAGAGAUAAAGGACUUAAGGAUUAUUGCAUAAAAGGUUAAUCAUAAAAAAAGGUUAUGUCGAAUCAUGAUCUCUUGUGACUUAGGUAGCAAUGAUGCAUUGCUAGAUGCCACUCAUUGUUUGUAGCAUUAGAAUCAUUCUAGUGUUACUGCUAACGUUACAGGAACCUAUAGGGUCACACCCUAUAGUUGAAAUGAACGAAAUAAACCAUAGUUGGUAUUGUUUUUGGGGUCGCUUGAAUUAAAUUAAUUAUAGAAUUAAUUUAAUUCGGUAAUCAAAUUUCUAACACAUUAUGUACAAGGUUGUUGUAUGUAUAAUGACGACAUGAAUUUAGUUAGCAUAAGAAUUCAAAUAAAUAUAUGGUUUACCGAACUUAUAUUAUAAUUAAUGUAAUUAUAAUUUUUGGUAUAAAAAUAUUAUUAUAUUUAUUUAAUUCCUAAAAACCCUAAAACAAACGGAUAUAUAUAAUCCCAUUUUUCUUUAUUUGAGCCUAGCAGCCGUCAAAGAAAAAUAACUCUCAAAACUGUUUUGGGGAUUCCUUCCGUUCGUAGUCAACUGGGUGGAUUACAUAGAGGUCGGGAUCACGAUAGAUUGCGACUUGGUUCGACAGCAGAUCAGACUACUCAUUGUUGAGGUGUUGCUGUCUACUCUGAAUAAACAUUAGGUAAUUUCGUAACCUUGAUCACCCCGAUUCGUUCCUCACACAUGAAUCCAUGGUUAGGGUCACCGAUUUUACUUUUUCGCUGCGCCGUAGGGGUGCCGGUGAUCCAACAUGACCAACAUCGGUAUUUAGUCUCUAUUAAUAUAAUUUUGUUUGUCAUUUUGAAUUUAUUCUAAAUGAAAGAGUGGUAUGUAAUAUUCGUUAUGAACUUAUAUUGGCAAGGUAUGAAAUAAAUAAAGACCGUUUUCAUGAGAUGUUGGUAGUUUUGCGUUCAAUUAACGGCGAAGGAGCGGACUACCUCUGUAACAUACCUUUCGAACAGUGGGCACAAGCAUACGACGGAGGCCUACAAUAUGGUUAUAUGACCUCAAACCUGGUUGGAUGCAUAAAUUCUGUUCUAAAAGAAACGAGCCAUCUACUGAUAACGUCGGUUGUGCGAGAGACACAUUUUCAGUUAGCGGUGUUAUUUCCAAAGCGUGGAGUGAGUUAUGCAGGCUAGAUGCAGGGAGGCCACGUAUGGUGCAGUAAGAAAUUAACAAGGCCAAGGCGAGGGCGAACACCAUACACACAGUGUGCCACGAUCAAUACAACUUAUGGUUUCACGUGACAGAGUUUGACAGACCGCACCAAGGUGUUAUUGGCGGGCAAUAUCGUGUACACUUGCGAAAUAGGACUUGCGACUGUGGGAUGUUUAACGCAUUUCGUUAUCCACGCGCUCUUGUAAUUGCAGCUUGUCAGAAUCUCCGUCUGGAUCUGAUGAGCUAUGUCGACGAAGUGUACAAAUUAAAAAAAUUUGUAUUAAAUGAAAUAAUGUAAGGACCCACGCUAUACAAGCCGAUCAUGCCCAAAUUGCAAUAGUUGAACAUUAUUGUAAAAAACUUUGUAUUAUUUAUAUUUCUUAAAAUAAAAUAAUAUAGAAAUAUUCAGAAUAUUGACUUAUUUAAAAGAAAAUAUAUUUUAUUAAAAAUAUUAAAGUAAAUUACAAUUACUUUACUUAAAACAACAUUUUAUUUUAUUAAAUGAAAUAAUAUAGAAAUAUUCAAAAUAUUUCCUUACUUAAAAGAAUUUCUAUUAUAUUAAAAAUGUAAAAGUAAAUUUCUAUUUUAUUACAUGAAAUAAUAUAGAAUAAUUUCUAUUUUAUUACAUCAAAUAAUAUCAAAAUAUUCAAAAUAGGCGUACAAAUAUAUUAAAAUAAAAAUCAAUCUCCGUGCUUGUCAGAUUCAGUGCCACAUGGUCGCCGUUGACGGUUACUUGCUGGAUUCCUCCUUUGUCCAGCUUCUAGUUAGGGUUGUGGUUGCUCUGGUGGGGAUUCUGGCUCCUCCAGUAGGGGAUCUAGUUGUCGGUGUUGGAACAAUGAGCCACCUUGAUAGAAUAGUGACUAUGGAGGUGUUUGCAUCACCAACGGCGAAGCUGAUUGAAACUCAUACGGUGAUGAGUAUUGGUAAAAAGAAGAGCUCCUCGACGGCCCCUCCUACAAUCCUUCGUGCGAUAGUGGCCUAUACAUCGGCGGUCCACUCGGCGUAAUUGAAAAAGGAGAUGAAUCAGGCCAUGGACUCUAACUUGCCAUAGGACUAGAAAAAAGAAACAUAUAAAGGUUAGGAUACAUAAAAGGGCUAGGAUACGCACUUGGCAUCAUCUGAAAAGGCUGUGUCGUGGGUGUCAUCGAUUGAAGUGCUGGGCCGAGUGACUGUAUCAGUGCUGUUGCUGGGCCUGUGAUUGUAUGAGCGAUGUUGAUGGGCCGAGUGAUUGUGUGUGCACUAUUGAUGGGUCUGCAUCGUCGUCCCUUCUUCUUGGAUUUAAAGGGCCACGUCGUUCCCUUUGAACACGCAAUUGCCGUUGCUUCUCCUCUUUCGACAGUAAAUACGGCUUGCCAUGGAUCUUAAACAAUGACAUGUAUUCCGGCACGCACGCUAACUCUAGAACGAUGAUCGGUUCCCGAAUAGGUAUAUAAUCAUACCGAUCUUCCCACAUUUGGAUGUAGUGUGACUAGAAUCUCGGCCAAUCCGUAUGCAAUUUCCAUAGGUCGAUUUUGUGAUGAUCAUCCAACACAUCAGGUGCCAUGGGUAUCGGUUGUCGGAAUCUGAAUUGCCGUAAUACUCUGUCCGACUGAUGCAUCUCCAUGGUUGCAAAGUUGACCAAUGGGACUUUCACAUGCCAAACAUUUGGAUUUUGGAGGUACUCAUCCAGAAUUAUUGCUCGAAUUGCUGGAUCCUCGUAUGGUGUCCAUUGAAACUAUAUGAACAUGAUGAAAAUAUUAGUUAUAUGCAUAAGUAAUACUAAAUUCUAAAUACUAAAUACCAAUCGACUAUCUCAUGAUGGAAAUAUCUAUUUUAUUUAAUACUUGUGCUUCCGACCGUUGGUCCAAUAGAAGCCGUAUAUCUUCAAGAGAUGUAGGUAAUCAAGCAUAACUUUCCGAAUAGUUCCACCUAAUUAAAUAUUUUUUUAUCAUACGAUUAUAUUUUAAAUCUACGUAAUAAUUAUAAAAUCUAUUAUAAAAUUUAUCUCGUUAUGAGUGGGAAUGUGUAUGGGUGGUUCACUCGAGGACGUAAAAAUGGAAAGUGAAACUGUGCCCAUGACUGCAGUAGUGAUAGGCAACCUCUGAUUUUCACUUUAUUCAGUCGCGUCGCCCCACGUAUCUCCCGGUACAAUGUUGCCAACACGGCAGACCCCCAACUAAAUUCACCAACUGCUCUAAAAUCAACGAGUUUCAGCAGCCAUCUCAAAUGUAUAAGGUUCUAUGACAAGUCCGGCAUCAGAUAAUCUCCAAUUAUUUGAAGAAUGUAUGCCCGAGCAUAUCAGAUUCUUUCUAGUUCCAUAGAAUCAUCAUCCGGCUCCGAAAAUAUGUCUCGUAACCAGCCCAUCUCGAUCCAACCUCUGUUAAUAUUAUUUGGAAUAGUGCCGAAAAGCUCGUAACAUACCACUCUCCAAUCAUCAAAUUGAACAGACCCGGUGACUGUGUACCCGUCCACCGGCAAUCCCAAUUGCAAAUUUACGUCUUCCAAAGUGAUAGUAUACUCUCCACAUGGAAGAUGGAAUGUGUGCGUCUUGGGUCUCCUCCUCUCAAUCAACACACUGAUGAGUUUUGGGUCCAACUUGCAUCCCCGGCCUACCAUCGCCAAGUGCCAAAAACUCACUUCCCGUAGGUAAUUCUCUACGAACUGUGAUGGAGGACCAUGCAUAUUACGAAUAUAGCAUUGCAAUAUCCGAUCUACAGACUUUUAUAACAAAUAAUAAAAUAAAAAUUAUUUAAAAUUGCAUAAAUCAAAAUAUCUUAAAUAAUAUUUAAAAAUUAAAUUUAACACUUACCAUUCUCAUUUGUUCGAUGGAUAUGUGCUUGUUAUCGAGACGAAUUAAUUCUCCGGCAAUUGCUAACACGAUCAAAUUUUUAUGAUUAAAAAAAUUCAAAAAAAUGAAAUAAAAACUUUUUUAAAAUAAUUAAAAAAAUAAAAGCUUUUUUAACAAGAAAUUGAGAGAAUAUUGAGAGAAAGGAUUUAGGUGUAAAAAAAUGAAAUAGAGGUUUAUAGUUUUUUUUUACCGUUGGGGGGUCACCAACGGUCAAAAAAAUAGUCGUUACUGUUCAUGCGUGGGCAAAACGCUUCCUCAAAGAAGCGCUUUCCUGCCUCGUCACUUGAGAAUGUGCUAACAUGAACGCGUUUUCAGGGAAUUGCACCAUUCCGGUAAUUAAUUUUUUACCAAGCUCAUUUCGAUAAUUUAAAAAAAAAUAGGCUUUUAUUGGUAAAAUGCCCAAUAAAUAAUACCAACAAAUUAAUGAGGGUGGUAAUUAAAAUUUCAACAUCACUUUACACUUUGGAUCAAAGUUCAUGGCCUUUUUUAAUUUUUAAGGAUUGUGGGUGGUUUGGGAUUUGUUAUUCAGGUGUUCCGGUUAACUGCUGAUCUUGGAAGGAUUUGGGUAAGUCCAAUUUCUGCGUUUUUGUGUUUUCUAAACAAUGCUCAAGAGGUGUUUGAUGAUUUGCCCUUUAGAAUAACAAAGCCUGGGUAUUUUUUUCAAGGAAAUUUUGGGUGAUUUUGUAAUGGUAAGUGCCUAAUUCUUUUCAAUAAAAAUGCAAAAAAUUAAGGCUUCUUACUUUUUUACGACUGGAUCAACCAGGGUGAGUUCUAACGUCUUUUUCUCAAAAUUUUCAGCUGUCAUAGGUAUCAACUUCGGCUGCCCUCCUGAAGUACCAGAGCUGCAUAAAAAUUUAAUGGUUUAAUAACAUAAAAAACUUAUGGAAAUCUUUCAAAAAUUAAGAGUAAAAAAUCUAAGAACAUGUUGCAGACCUUUGGAUGAACUCAGAGAUGGGGUCAGCUAAAAGGAUAUUUGAAGUCUCCCUAUUGGCAAUUCAAUUGAUGUAAGGCCUUAUAUCUUCGUAAGUAACAAUGGGUACAUUGUUUUUGAAGAGUUGUUUAUCAGUUUGGCCAUGGAGGAAUCGAGUUAGAUAUUCAGUUCCAGCAUUUCUCAGCAGUAUCUCCUCUAAUACUUGUUCUUGAAUUCGAUGACCAUUUUCGGUUAAUUCCUCCAAAAAAUUCAACCCAUUUCCAUAAUCUUUCGUUCCUAUCAGAUCAGCCAUGAAAACAGGUAUUUUUUUAAUGAGCUGAUAAAUAUUCUAACACUUCAAGAAACAUGAUCACAAUUUCCAUCUAUGAUUCUGAAACUGGUUGACAUAGCUGAUGUGAUGGCGGCCGUAAGUAGUGUACACCGCACAGAAAGAUACAAAUCCUUUAAAUUACUGCAUUACAUAAAAAAAAUUAUAAGAACUUUUAUAAAUAAAAAAUAAGAAUAUACAUUAAGAGCAUGUUUGGUUGGGUGUAUUGGCAUAGCCAAUACACCCCUAAUCAGUGGGCCCCACUUAAUACUCCUUUUAUCCAUUGUUUGGUUUAGUGUAUUGUUAUUACAGGUCUAAUCCAUUACAGACCUAAUCCCCAAAAUCCACCGAUUUCUAUUCCGGAUGAAAAGCUCUGUUUUGUUGCGUAUUAAGUUCUCCCCAUUUUUCUACCCUGUUUUACCCUCCUAAUUGCUUCUUCUGAUUUUUCUGAUUCCAUAACUUUUUCCUUCCUUUCUGCCGCCACAUCUGCUUCUUCUUCAUCACUCAUUAGCAGACUACUUCUUCUUCUUCAUCCGCUCGACCCUGUUGCUGUUUCAUGGUGGUAACCGCUUGAUUCUCAACUUAUUGGCUCUCCAACAAUGGGAACAAAGACUCCAAACUUCGCCACUUUACCGGAAAUGAUAUUCGGUGAAAGUUGUUUGAUUCUCUUAAAGACGUCGCAAGCGGCAACGAUAUUCGUUUCAAUGCAUUAGAUGCUUUUUUCGAUUGGAAGCAUGAAGGUUUGCCUCCUGUUGAAGUUCCUUCUGCUGCUCAAUGGAAAUUCAGAAGGUAAAAGAAAUGUCGAUUAUUUUAUUUAACGUUUUUGGUGAUUUAAAUUCAGUUUUACGAUCAUUUAUUUUACUGAGAACAUCCCGUGCAGGACUUACAUCUGAAGAUGCUGAAGUUCGAGUCCAUAUUUUUGGUCAGAAUAAGCUCGAGGAGAAGCCCAUAAGCACCCGUAAUUUCGGAUAUAUAUAUAGAGAGAGUUUCAAAUUUUCAGUUAAAUCAUCAUUAUUUAUCUGUAGUUCUAGUUAUAAAAUUGCAAUAGAGUAAGACCUUGCAGCCUAUUAGCUAAGCUAGCUGUAGUUUAUCUGGUUUGGUUUGAAGCACUGUGACAAUGCUAGCUUUUUUAUCAUACUCCAGGAAAACAAGUUUUUGAAGUUUCUAAGUUUUAUGUGGAACCCAUUAUCAUGGGUUAUGGAAGCUGCAGCAGUGAUGGCCAUUGUCCUUGCCAAUGGUGGAGUAAGUUAUAUAUCUUUCCCCAUAUACUUUUCAAAGCUUGAAUGGUCACCCUGAUAGCUUUCUGCGGUUUGUUUUGUUUCAGGGUGAGGGUCUUGACUGGCAGGACUUUGUAGGGAUUAUAUGCCUUCUGAUUAUCAAUUCAACAAUCAGUUUCAUUGAGGAAAACAAUGCUGGAAAUGCUGCAGCCGCACUCAUGGCUCGUCUGGCUCCUAAAACAAAGGUCUGCAACUCUCUUCAAGUUUCUUUAAUGCCUUUGCAAAUACAAUAAUGUCUAAAUUUUCAUAAUCAUUUUUCUUUUAUGCAGGUUCUCAGAGAUGGUCAGUGGCAAGAGACAGAUGCUGCUAUUUUAGUACCAGGAGAUAUAAUUAGCAUAAAACUUGGAGAUAUCAUCCCUGCAGAUGCUCGCCUUCUUGAAGGCGAUCCACUUAAAAUUGAUCAGGCAAGUGCUCUACUUGAUAGUGAUAAAAGUCAAUUAAAUAACUGAAGAUAUAUCAUGUAAAAAUUCCUGUAUUAUCUGUUAUUCUUGCAAUCGGUUCUCAUCGACUGUCUCAACAGGUACAACUCUUAUUCAAUGCACAUCAUUUUCCAGUAAAAAUAAGCUAAAACAUCCAAAACAGCACAAUGACAAACUGAAAUACUUAUUCUACGUUGUUUACAAAUCUAUUGUUUGGUUUGUUUUUUUAGGGUGCCAUUACUAAAAGGAUGACUGCAAUUGAAGAAAUGGCUGGAAUGGAUGUUCUAUGUAGUGACAAAACUGGAACUCUGACCUUGAAUCGUCUAACCGUUGAUCGGAACCUUGUUGAGGUACAAUAGCUGGACUUCAAAAUUUUGAAACUCCUAGUUCUUGCAAUGACUCAAUUUUCAGAUAAAGGUUAAAUAGCCAUGUUCACCUUUUUCUUAAGGUUUUUAGCAAAAAUAUGGACAAAGACUUGGUUGUUCUGCUAGCAGCAAGAGCCUCCAGACUGGAAAAUCAGGAUGCUAUUGAUGCAGCCAUCAUUAACAUGCUUGCAGACCCGAAGGAGGUAAUACAACAACAAAAAUGUUCAAUUUCAAGGUUCUCUUUUUCAUUUGAUUCUUUUAGAUGUUCAUGUCAAAUAAUGAAAGAAACCUUGCAUAUUCAGGCUCGUGCAAACAUCAAAGAGGUUCACUUUCUUCCAUUCAACCCAGUCGACAAACGUACCGCAAUUACAUACAUUGACUCUGAUGGUAAUUGCAAAGGUUUAUUUUUGUGUCCCAGGAUAUUUAGGAUAGUGAUUGAUGAUGAUUUUGUUGUCAUUUUAAAUUGCAAUCAGAACCCAAGGGAAGAAAUUUCAAAGGGGAGCUCAGGCCUCCAUUGGGAGGAUUGCACACUGCGGCUUGCUUAUGCAAAUCUAUGUGGUUGACAUUUUCUUAACCAUCUCUUCAUUUUUUCACUCUGUAUCCUGAAAGAAAUGCUAAUUUCAGGUUCAUCUGGUUGCUUGAAAAACUCUUAAUACAUAAGCCACUGCACUCUUUUUCUCUCCUGAAUUGAUUGAAUCAAUCUUUAUCUACUGUAAGUAUAUAAUCAUUGACUUCCUCUCUGGUUUUUCGUGUUUGCCUAUGCCACACUAGCAUGUUCACUUUUAUAUGUGUUUACUUGGGAAUAUUAUCUGUCAUACUUGUUAAUUUCCUUGUAAGUUAAAGUGACAAAUCUUAUUUCCUUGUUACUGCAACUUUAAAAUGUACCAUUUCAAGUAGCUACUCUCCCCUUCUCCUUUUGGUGUGAUUAGGAGUCAGAAAGAUUGUUUUUCCUGAUUUAUCAAUGCAUCACAUAAAUCCAGAAUUGGCAGAGAUUGCUUUUUCCCUUAACUUGUGGAAUGGACACAUGAAGUUGGAGGUUAUUUUCAAUGGCAACUUUGGACAGUAUUCGUUUUCCUGCUAGAUUGAUGAGCUAUUUUGUUUGAAGUGAAGAAUCGGUUUCAUGGAAGGCCAAUUGGAGUUGAGAGCAGGGUGAAAGAGAUAUUGUAUCGGCUUGAAUUUCUUCUAUUGAAUUCUUACUUUAUAUUUUUAGUUGAAGUGAGAUAUUGAGGCAGUACUUCCAUUUAAUUCAGAAUUGUUGUAAAUUCAAUCGAGUUGUUGAUGAUAAUUCAAUAUGGUUAUGUUUUUUUUUAUUUUUAGAGUUCAAUUCUAUAUGGUUAUGUUUUUUUUUUUAGAGUUCAAUUCUUACUCACUUAUUAAAUUUUAUUAGUUAUAAUUAUUUUAAAUUUUAUUAAAUCAUAUAUUUUAAUUAAAAUAUAUUUAAUAUUAAUUAUUUCAAAUUAUCUUUUAUAGUAUAAUAUAUUAUGAUUUGAGUAAAUUCAUAUAAGAAUAUUAAUUAUUAAGAAUUUUAUUAAAUUAUAUAUUUUAAUUAAGAUAUAUUUAAUAAUAAUUAUGUUAAAUUAUCUUUUAUAGUAUCAUAUAUUAUGAUUUGAGUAAAUUCAUAUAAGAAUAUUAAUUAUUAAGAAUUUUAUUAAAUUAUAUAUUUUAAUUAUAAUAUAUUUAAUAAUAAUUAUGUUAAUAUAUAUUUUAUAGUAUCAUAUAUUAUUAUUUGAGUAAAUUCAUAUCAGAAUAUUAAUUAUUAAGAAUUUUAUUAAAUUAUAUAUUUUAAUUAAAAUAUAUUUAAUAAUAAUUAUAUUUAAAUAUGAUUAAAUUAUUUAUUAUUGAUAAUAAUAAUCUUAUUAAAAUUUAAAUAACAAUAAUAAUAAUCAUUUACCAAAACAAAUUUAUGCUAAGGGUAUUCUAGUCAUUUUAGUUUUUUCCAUUAUGCUAUUACACUUCUAUUCCAUUACACCUCUAUUCCAUUACAUUCAACCAAACAGUUGAUUUGCUAUUACACCUCUAUUCCAUUACACCUCUAUUCCAUUACACCUCUAAUCCAAUACAUCUCUAAUCCAAUACAGCGAACCAAACAUGAUCUAAGAGUUAAAAAAAUACAUUUGAUCUCGUAUGAAUUUGGUUAAAAAUUCUGAUAUUAGUCCCUGUACUUUAUAAAAGCUAUUGAUUUAGUCCUUAUAAUUUAAUUUGGUCAUCUUUAGUCCUUGUACUUUUUAAAUUUGAAAAUUUCAAUCCUCACCAAAUGAUGAUUGUUAAAUUCACUAAGUUAAGUUUUUAUUAUUUCCAAAAUCUGAUGUGCUAAAUAAAUUAUCAUAUGUGUAAUAUCAUGUCAGCUUGUUAUUUCCACAUAUUACAUAAAAAACUUACAGUUAAUAGAUUAACAACUAUCAUUUACAUCAAGAUUGAAAUUUCAAGAUUAACGAUUAUCAGUUAAUAGACUUCUAUUUUCGUUCAUUGGUCUUUGCAGACAUCUCUGUCUUCAAGAUAGUCUUUGGCAGACAUUCCAUAUAAGAUAGUCAUUGGUUGACUUUUAGCAUAAGACGGUCUUUGGUGGACUUCCUUUUUGCUGGCGACCUUGUUGCCAAUACCCAUUUAGGAAUAAGUUCUGUAGAACUGUCUCACUUCCUUAUGACCCUGUUGACUUGUCUGUCACCUCUGGUGGGCUCUUAUUAACGAAUAUUUCUUUGCAGUUACUCUGAAGAAAAUAUCUUUGUUUUUUCCACACAUAUCUACGCACAAGGCAUUUUUACAUAUUCCUCAUGCCUUCCCAUCUUAACCGUACCUCUUAUCAGCACGCUUGUCCACGUUCCUAUAUGUUAUAAGUAUUGUAACUAACUUCAUCACGGGAUUCAUAUAAGGGUUUCCACAUAUAUACCCCGAUUGACUUCCCUGUUUAUUGCCCUGGUGGACUUCAUUUUGUCAAAAGGUGUACCUAUCUUUCAUCCAAUCAUGCCAUGACUCUCCAUGGACUUUUGACUCUGAGGAUUCAAUAAACCUCUUUCGAAGUGUUGCUCUAUAGAGCCUGUAGAUAAUCAUUUUCAUGGUGUCGCUUCGUAGAGCCUGUAGGUAACCAUACCACAACGCCGCCAGACUUUCUUAAAUCCCCUAUCAACUUGUCCAUUCCUCCAUUAUGCCAAUUUUUCUAUCUUCAACUAACCCACCAGAGUAACUUCCAUCAUACUCCGCAUUUUAUAUACAUACAUUUCACGCAUAACAUUAUGCCUACUAUCAUAACAUGUAGUACGCCAUAUGUUAAUACAUCAAUACACAACCAUAUUUUGCACCAAGAGAACAUACUUGCAAGCAUUCAUAUAUUUAUACAAGUUUAUGCAUACAUAACUUUCUCAUUCACCAUAAUAAUAUACAACCAUGGAAUUCAAACUGAACCUAGAGCAAAAAUACAAGCAAAAAUUCAAGAAACACAAUAACCAACAAACACCCAAAAGUGGAGUACGAAACUCAUCUGUUAUCCUUCAUCCUCGACAACUUAGCUUUUACUUAUGCCAGAGCCUCCUUCAUCCUAGCAACUAAGCAUGACAACCAAAUAUAUUGGUUAAACUGAAGGAAUUUGAACUAAAAACCCAGAAUCCAAUAUAAUGUAGAAACUUUUAUUUUCAAAUAUUUCAAAAAUCGUUACUUCUCUUUUUCUCAAUUUUACGAAUACAAAGAGAUGAAGAAGCCUACAGCUCACCGAAUUCUCUACUUUCUAUACUUAAACCUCAUGAUCAUUGUCUCAUGUAGGGCUUUCCUCAACUUUCUCUUCUUCGGAGCAAAUAAAGAAGAUGAUGCAGACGAGAAGAAAAUGAAACAGAAGUGAGAAGAAUUUUACCUCCUGAAAAAUCCUUCUCACACAUAUAUAUAACCAUUCUUGCACGGUCACCAAAGUCUCAAGUAACCUAUCCAUCAGUGAUCAUUCUGCUUCCUACUAAGGAACCAGCUGGUUCCAGCUUAAUUGAACCAGAUUGAGACCUAACUUAGUACCAUUCAGUCACUAAAUUUCCCAGAUUUUUUUAAUGGAGCCCACCAACUUAAUAUCCUUUUCAAUUAAUCCCAAAUCUUUCUUAAUUUUGAACCUUAAUGGAAAUCGAGUAUAACAUGCCUCAACAAGUCGAUUCUGACUCCUUAACAUACAAUGAAAUUGUUGCUUUACCGAUCACCAUUGAACCAUGUAGAAUGUAAAGACUAUCGAUUUUUCGACCUCUCUUUAGAACGAGAGUUAUACGAGAUACUUUAAUGCCGUUUAACUUGAUGGUGAUCCUACAACCCUUCAAGUCUAAAUUUCCUUUCUUUUUAAAGAACAAUAUUAUUAUUUAAUAUUUGAUAUUUUGUAUUUUAUAUGAUAAUUAAAGUAUUCUUUUAUAUUCUAUAUUUCCUAUGACCGUUCUAGAGAUGAAAUUGAUGCAAUCAUGGAUUAACAAUUCAAUCGUUUAAUCGAUGAACCAAUAGAUUGAUAUCAAGAACUAAACUUGAAGAAAUAACUAAAAGCAAAUAACAAGCAUCUCAAUGAUUCUUUUACCAAAUUUGCUAAGAAGUUCAACCAGAUUUAGGAUACCAAAGAGACAACACUAGCAUAAAAAGCUAUAUUUAUUUCCAUCAAAGGCUCACCUGCUAAAAAGAUAUAAAAAAACUAAUAAGAUUCCAAGUUCAUGCAAGAUUUCCAUUGCUGAAGAACUUCCCAACAACCCUGGAAUCCAGUAUUUCAAUGGCUUCCUUAAUUUUAAGGCAACAAGGUGUCUUGUAUUGGAGAGGUGCAGCACCCCUCGAUACAAAGAAAUUCAUCAGUUCAUCGAAUGCUCCGAAUUUCACCACCCUGAUCUCCAACGGCCCGAUCAAAUUCAUCUUCCUAUACAACCUGUAAGUGAAAUCAAGCGAUUCUUCGACUCUACGACAGCAUUGUUCCAUCGUAUUAGAGUCGAGUUUUAGCCGAUCAGUGUUGCUAUCUCUCAGCUUUAGCUCCCAGAACAGUAUAUAUCGACCCGGUAUGGACCAUGUGUCGGCAAAGCUACUGUAUGCCGUCAAAAGAAAACCAUGGGGCUCGAGUUCGAUUUCGGCAGCUUUGAUAGCCUUGCUGAGAUCGGCUUCACUUGUUUUGUCCCUAUCGAUGCUCAAAGCCACGUUUUGUCGUUCCACAAAUUGGAAUUUCGGAGAUUUGUUAUGGAAACCAGUUACCUUUAGAAUAUCUCCAACUCUGUAUCGGUAUAAACCUGACAAUUGGAAAUGAAUCAUGAUAAAAUGAAUCAGUAAAAAUGCAUUAAAUUUCUUUUCGAAUACACCUGACAAUUGGAAGGGACAGAUUGGUUUUUAGUUGAAUUAAUCUGAUAGCGGUCAAAAUUAGUUUCAGGUUUGUGAUUUCAAAAUUCCAUCGGGUUUGUGUUAUUUUGAAUAUUUUCAUUUCGGUUCGGCAGUUUAAUUGAUUUUUUAGUUCAGUUCUGAGUCAACUAAUUUUAUACUUCUUAUUGAUGGAUACUCUAGUCGAUUCUCAGUUUAACCAGUCAGGUUUUGACAUCACCGGCUUUUUAAGUUUAGUAUAUUGAUUUGGGUUACUUUUGAAAUCAAAUUGACUAUUAAGUUAAAUCGAAUUCAAGUUAAUCAAUUUGAAUUUUUAUAUUCAAGAUUUUGCUUAGUAUAAAAGUUGGAAAAGAGAGAUGAAAUUUUUUCAUAAUCACUUUUUUACUUUGUAGCUUAAUAAUUAAAUUGAAGAAUUUUUCAUCCUCAAUAUCAUGUAGAGCCAAACGGAUAUAGUCUCCGAUAUUUUUCGGAGAACAAAAAAUUUGAGAUAAAUUACCUGCCAAAGUUGUGACCACCACUUCGUAAAACUGACCCAUCUUCACAUCAACAAGAUCAACAAUUUGAGCACUGCCAUUCUCCAACUUUUCAAUCGAUUCUUCAUUAGAGACGCCAUUAAAAUGAAGCUUUUGAGCCUUUUGUGGGCUCUCUUUAUCCACAGGGAUGAACUCAAAAUAAGCCAUAUUUGGAAGAAAUGUGUAGGAAACAUCCCAAGGCUUGUUUAAUGGUUCCAUAUUGAUCCCAAAACAUGCUUCUGAAGAAUUAUAAAAAGUUGAAAUUAUAGGCAAUCUUCCACUAUAAUAAUCAAUUAAACCAAUGUAUUGACUCAUCGAACCCGUAACAAUGGCAUCGAUAUACUUUGCUUUAGGCCAAAGUUUCGUGAUUAUCCCUUCCCACGAUUCGUUCUUGAAUAUCGGUUCGAGUAAAUCUGCUAAUUCCGAAUUAGGUUCUAAAAGGAACGACAACAUGGGAGUUCUACAAUCCGGUUCGGUGAUCCAAUCGCUAAGAUGGCCGGUUCGGAUGUCGGAGCAAAUGUCCUUCCAAUGAUCUUGCAAGAACUUGAUGCAAUUGGGAAAAGUCGAAGCGAAGAUAGUGCCGAUACGGAGAACCUCGUGUCGUCGGAUUAGGCCGAUGAGUAACUGACAAUACAUGCUUUGGGGUUUGUUUAAAGACAAGAUGAUUUCAAUUGGAGUGGUGACAGUUUUAAAGAGGGUGGUUUUGAAGGUGGGGCUUGAUAAGUAGCUAGAUGAGAACAUUCUUGCUUUUAAACCAGAUGGAGUGUCGAAAUCUGGGUUGCUGAAUAAAAGGUACAUUCCUUUGCCUUUGUCUAAACCCUCAAUAUGUCUGCAGGUUUUGUCAAUUUAUUACCAACAAGUUAAAGCACACAUUGAAAUUAUUAUCAUAGAUAAGGAUACAUCAUAUAGGUACCGUAGAUGAUAGUAAUAUUUCGAGUUAAAUUACUAUUUGGGACCUAAAUUUGGUAACAAAUUCACAUUGAAACCUUAACUAUUUUUUGGUUUAAUCUAAUAUUGGGGCUUGAAAUAAGAAAUUUUUCCGCAUUGGGGCUUAAAUUUUUUUUGUCCAAGUUAGUCUCUGAAGUUGACAAUUGUUCUCAUAUUAGGCCUUGAAGCUGGCAGUUGUUCUCGUAUUGGAGCCUAAACUUUAGGGUUUUCAACGAAAUAUCAGGGGCUAACUUGGACUAAAAAAAUUCAUACCCCAAUUUGUGAACAAUUACCAAUUUUAAGGACUAACUUGGACAAAAAAAUUCAACCUUAAUGUGGAAACAAUUACCAAGUUCAAGGACUAAUUUAAAAAAAAUUUAAACUUCCAUAUAAAAAUAAUGGUCAAAUUCAAAUCUCUAAAAUUGAUUUAACCCUGAUUUUUUUAGUCAAUUUAUAAUUUUCAUCAUGGUACUAUAUUCAAUUUCAUGAUUUAAUCAUUAUAAUCUGAUUUGGUCCACCUACCAUUAUUUUUGUUUAGAAUCCUCAAUUAUUAUUUAUAUAAUAUAUUCAUCUGGUGUUUAUUUAUUUUACAAAUAAUUUGGGUUUGAAUGUGUGAUUUAAAAGGGUGGAAUUAUGAUUAUGAAAUUGUGAGUAAAGAUGGUUACUUGUGCAUCACAGCUUCCAUCAACAUAGGGAUUGAAGCCCUUUUCUGCGAGCAAUCAGCAGUGGAAAGUACAUACUUCGGCUCCCCUCCCGAGGUACCCGAGCUGCAUCAAAACUUUGUUACGCCCAACUUCAAUUGAAUUCUUAAUCCAUGGCUAAUGGUAUCAGUUAAUAUUAUAAAUUUAGUGUACCAGUGAAUUUUAUUAUUAAAAUUAUUUGAAAAAAAUUAUCACAAAAUAAUUAAAUUCAAGUAUUAGAUUUUGAAUGGAAAUUUAAAAUGACUCGAUAAACUUAAAAUAUCUUAAGAUUAAAUGUCAAACCUGAAUAAUAAAAAAAUACAAAAUGCUUUAAACCUUAAAUAAUUUCAACUCAAAGUAAUUUGAACUCAAAAUGCAUAAAAUCUAAAAUAGUCCAAACUUAUAAUCCAAAAAUUUUGAAGUCUAAUUCAAUCGAGAUUGACCCAAACCAAUCUAAGAUCAACCCAAUCUAUCUAAUUGAUAAGUCUAAAAUUUAGGGACAAAUGUGAGGGGUAGGCAAGGGCAUAGCCCCCUCUAAUAGAAAAAUUGUCAUUUAAGUUCUUUAUUAAAUGAUUGAAUUAAAAUUAAUUUAUAAUAAAAUUAUAAUUUGACCCCUCAAAAAUGAAACUGUAUCAAUUCUUACAAAAAUGAUGAAAUCAUAGAUCAGUGUAUUAUAAAAUUAUGUUAUAAUCCCUUAAAAUUUUAUUAUUCUUCUCUAAUUCUCUAAAAAAAAAUUUUAGAUUCACCUCUACUAAAAUCAUAGAAGUAUAUAUAUUAACUUCGUACCUUAGGAUGAACUCAGUAAUGGUUUCGGUAGUAAGGAUAUUCGGAGGCUCCCCGUCGACGAUCCGGUCGAUAUAAGACUUGAUAUCUUCGUAAGUAACGACGGGGACAUAUUUUUUGAAGAGUUGUUUAUCAGUUUGGCCAUGGAGAAACUUGUUCAAGUAAUCAGUUUCAGCAUUUCGUUUCAAAAUGUUCUCCAAUAUUUUCUCUUGCUCUUCACCAGCGUUGCUUGUUUGUUCCUCUAUUUUUUUCAAAAGAUAUUCAAUCCUACUUUUCUCCAUAAUGAACUACUCUUUCGAAUAUCAAAAACUAUGCAACUUGGGAGACACAUGCAUGGUCUCAAGAUUGAUAUUUAUAAUGAAUAGCUUGGACAACCUCACGUAACGAAUAUAUCAUCUCCUCUCUCUAUAAUAGUUAUAAUCAAUAACUACAUUUUAUUAUAAUAGUCAAGCUUGUGGUACAAUCGAUUUUUUACUUCUUUUUUUUUAUUACCCUCUAUGAUAACUUUUAUCUAUGAUUGCAAACAUAAAGUAUGAAAUACAUUUUUUAGUUAAUUAGUUCUAUUCCUAAAUGAAAUAAAAAUGAUAAAUUUUAGUUACUAUAUUAUUUCAAUAAAAUAUUUAAAUUAUAUAUAAAAUAUAUUAAUUAUAUUUUAUUAGAUAAAAAUAAUAUUUUACAUUUGUAAAUUUUAUUAAAGAUGCGAGUUAAAUCUUAUUAAUUAAUAAUAUUGUUAAUAUGUUAUAGUUUUUAAUUAUUUUGAAAUUAAAAAAAAUCAAAUAUGAUCUAAAACUCAAAUGUCGGUAUAAAUGUUUCAGAUGUUGUUAUAGCAUAUAACCCCUCCUCAACCCAUAAAUAGGAAGUUAAUGCACUUCAGUGCACUUGAACUUACGUUUUUUUGAAUUGGCAACAAUACUUAUAUCAAUCGAGUUAAGACUCAAUCGAAAAAUAUUGAUAUAUUAAAUUUUAUUAAAUAAGUCUAUGAAAUAGAAUAAACAAAACAAAAAUGCAUCCUUUUUAGGGUAUAAUUUAGCCAAGCAUUUGGAUUGCUAUUUGGUAGGUCGUAAAUAAAUUGAAGAUAGGCAAUUAUUAAAGUUAGGUGAUGGCACAAUAUGUACAGUAGAAAACAAUUAAUUUAUUCAUCUAACAUUAUUAUAUUAGGACACAAGUGAAAAAUAAAAAUAAAUAUAUUUAUAAAAAUCGAUAUAAUUGAAUAUGUUUUAAAUUUUAUAAAGAGAUUUUUUGAUAAUUUCACUAUUUAAUUAAUAUUCACUUUUUAGUAAAGAUAAACUUAUGCUCAAUAUAAAAAAUAUUCUCAUAAAAUAAUUAAAAAUAAAUAAGCUUCUAAUUGAAAACAACACUCAAUUCAAUUCUUUGAAUUAGAAAUUGCACUAAAUUAAGCUUUACAAAAUAUAGUUUUUUUUCUGAAAAGACUUAUAUUAUGGUGUGAUGGUUAACAUUAGAGGUGUUUAUGGGACAGGUCAGGUUGAGUCUAAGCAUGAUAUUAGCAUACUUUAUGCUUGCUCAAGCUCAGCCCGGCCCGAAAUGUGAGCUUAAAUUUUACUCAGAUUUGUCUAUAUUUGCAAAAAUUAACUGAAGCCCAUUUUAGACUCGUCCAUAUUAUUUUUUAAAAUUUUUUUAAAAAAUAUUUAGAUUAUAUUAUUUUAAUAUUUAAUAAAAUUUUAUAUAUUUUUUUUAUUUAUUGCAAGUUUUUAUAUUGUUAUCUUAACAUUUUAAUAUUCAUAUUAGAGUAGUAUUAUAUAUUUAGUAUAGGUUUAUUUUUUUAAUGUGUUCUAAAUUACAUAAUAUAUAAAAAUAACAUAAUAUAAGUAUUAUAAACUUUAAAAUGGGUCAGCUCGGGUCAGACUCUGGAGUUGAAUGUUCAAGACCGAGCCCGACCCAUAUUUUAAACGGGCCUAAUUUUUUUCCCAAUCUCAUUUUUCGAGCAUAAUAUUUUUGUCUAAACCCUCUCAAAUUUCGAAUGAGCCUUUGAGCUUUGAUAGAUAGCCUGACCUAUUAACAAGUCUAGUUGACAUGACGUUUGAAUUGAAAAUUGAUAACAUAAUAGUUGACGUGAUGGCUUAAUUUUUUAAUUAUUUUUUAAUGAUUUAAUCAAUUUUUUAAUUGUUUUGAUUGAGAAGAGAUGAUGGAAGAAAAGUUUAUAAGAAUAAAUUGUGAUGUAGGUAGUGCCUAAAAAGAAAUAAAAAAAUAGUAGUAACUUUUUAUUUUUUAAAAAUAUUUAUAAUUUUUAAACAAUUUUUCUAAAAUUAUAUAUAUUAUAGUUUUAUAAUUUUAAAAUAAUUUUCAUAAUUUUUUAUAUUUCUUAUAUUUUUUUAAAAAAAUUAAUACUUUAAUACCUUUCUAAUUUUUUAUAACAUUUCUAAUAACUUUUAUAACUUUUUAAUAAUUUUAAUUCUUUUCUAAAAUUUUCUAUAAUCGUUUAUAAUUUUAAUAAUAUUUUAAUUAUUAAAAAUAACUUUUUAGUAUUUUUAUAUUUUUAUAAUUUUCAAAUUUUUUUCCAUGCCAAUGGUUAGAUUAUCAAUAUUUUACUUCAGUGCUACAUCAAUUAUCGUGUCACCACUUAAUUAACAACCUAUAAAAAGCUUUAACAAAAAACUAUAUUUAAGAAAUUUAGUUUAAUGUAACCUAUGAUUCGAAGGGUUGUGAUAUGUUUUCAAUUAGCACCUUAAUUAAUUUUUAAUUAUUUUACAAGUAUAUUUUUGCAUUUAAGCAUGAGUUAAUGUUACAAACCAAAUAACACUAAUUCAAUUUCAUAAAAAAAUAAAGCUACUUCAAUUGAAAAUUAAUCAAAAAUUAAAUAAAUUUAAUUAAUAAAUAUAAUAAUAUUUGUUUCGCUUAAAAUAAUUACUAACAAUUUAUUUUAAAAUAUUACUAUCUGUCUAAGUUCCAAAGGCCCGUUCGAAAUUUGAGUAAAAAUAUUAGGCUUGAAAAUGGACUUGAAUAAAAAAAUUAGACUCAUUUAAAAUAUGUAUAACUCGAACAAAUAUAAAACCAAUGAACUCCUCGACUAUUUACUUAAAAAAGUACCGACAUUUUAAUUUAUAAAAAAUUAACCAUCUUUUUAAAGAGAAAAUAUUUUUCAUGCAUUAUUUUUCCAAAAAAAAAUUAAAUAAAAGACCUCCAACAUAAUCUUUGUGUCAAAUUCUAGUAUAAAUGUAAAUUAAAAGUAACAUGAAUUAUUUUAUUUUCUUAAGUUAAAAUUAAUUAUAUCACUUUUAUACAAAUACAAGGUAAUUUCUUUUUGAAAUAUAUAUUUUUUGUAAAUAAAAUUAGAUUAUGAGUAAAAGAAAUUAUGUAAAAAUUUAUAUUUCUUAAAAUAUUAUAAAAGAACCAAAUCAGACUUUAGUUGAAAUAAUAAAGUUGGAAGUUUAAGAAGUAUGACAUUAAAAUAUAGUAUUUUUUUAUUGUUUUCACUAAAAAUGCUUUGUAAAAUUGAAAUUGAUGAAAAUAAUAGUUCUUAACUUUAAAAGAAUUGAUCUUGAUUCAAAUUCAUAUAGAGACACAAAAAAUAUUUUUUUUCAAUACUCUUUUUAAUAUCAAAUCCGGUAACUUGAUUCAAAUCGAUAUAAAUGUAAUUUUUUUAAUUUUUUUUAUUUUUCAUGUUUCUAUUACAUAAAAAUUCGCACAAAAAAUGUUUUGUAACACCCCAAAAUCUGGCCCAGAAGUUUUGACGGAUCUCGGAGGUCACAUUGACCACCGAAAUGAUCUAAAAGCAAUUUGUAAAAGAAUUGUUUAAAACUCGUUUUGAAUACAGUUUGCUAAAACCGAACUAAAUUAUUUAACAAUUUAUGGUUCAAAAUUGUAAUAAGUGGCGUUAAAAAUAUUCAGAAAUAAAAACCACAGUUUCUAAAACUCAAUCCAAAUAACACUUACGAAAAUCCAACGUAAAAUUUAUACCACGACUCCCAUAAUUACUUACAGACCAAAACAGUUUAAUAAAUUAAGAAUUGAAGAAAAACUUUAUUAGCUUAGGUCAAAACUUAUCAUGCCGAGACCUCCGGUAUGUUGAGUCCAGCUCUAGAAUACGAGAGUUCUUGAAAUGUUUAUUUACUAUUGAAUUGAAUUGAAUUAUAUAUGUUUAUUUGUCUUUGGAUUGCUAUAAAUGUCAAAUGAGCAACUACGAGCAAGAAUCGACAGAGUUAUGAUAUUUGAAAGUCUCAUACGAACCUUAGGAAUAGUAUAGGAUACAAAUGUCAUGACAUUAGGUGACCAAAAUGUGAUUACAUGUAAGACCAUGUCUGGGACAUUAGCAUCAUUAAUCAAUUUCGUGUAAGACCCUGUCUGGGACAAUGGCAUCGAUAUGUGAUAACAUGUAAGACUAUAUCUGGGAUAUGGCAUUGUACGAGUUAUAUGUGAUUGUCGAGCAUCCUUAACGAUUUCGAAUGGUUCAACAGGCAUAGUCAAGACAAGAAUGAAAGUACGAUCGAAAUAAAUAUUAGAGGUAUGUACAAAACUUAUGUGAGAAUCGAAUGAAAGUGGUGAGUUCGUAUUAUAUCAUGUAUAUGAAAUGAAAAAGAUUUUUUUAUAAGUAUAUUUCAUGCCAAAAUGUGUUUAUAUGGCUAUAAUAAGGUAUGAAUUGAAUGAUAUGUAAGAUAUGAGUUAUAGUUGUUUUAACUAAAUAUACAUAUGGCACAUAGUGUGUGAAACAUCGUUAUUUGAUAUUAUUUCACAUAAUUCACUUGGCUAAAGAAAGGUGAUAAAUAUUGAAUUGAAUAUAGUUUUAUAUAUAUAAUUGCUUAUGCAGAUGAAAAUGUGAAUGAAUUGAUAAGAAGUAUUCAAACCAUACGUGUUUUGAAUGAAUAAACUCAUGAAAAUCUUGAUUAACUAUGUGCAAUCAAUUCGAGAUAGAAUGGUGAAAUCAUAUGAAUUAUAACAUGUUUUGAAUAAUUGUUUAAAAUGCGGUUAUUUAAUAAUAUGAGUUUAUUACCAUAUGAGCUUACUAAGUUUUAUAGCUUACUUUAUUUUCUUUUCCAUGUUUUUAGAGUUUCAGAGAAGCUUGCUCGGGUUGGAAGUCGUUAGAGAUUUCAUCACACUAUCCAGCUAUGGUUUGGUAUUUAUAAGCUUUGUGAUAUUGGUUAUAUGGCAUGUAUAGGCUUGAGUCUUUUUUAUGAAUAUUUUGGUGAUGUAUUUGGUCAUUUGGUAUAUGAUGAGUAUUUACUUAUGAAAAGCAUGAUUUUAGACUUGAUAAGUGAAUGGCUAAUAGAUGAUAUUUAUGAGUCAAGCUUUGUGUGUAUUUGAUGGUAGCAAAAAUACAUAUUGAAAGAGGUUGUAUUGAUGAGUAUGAUAUGUACUUUGGUAUAUGAUUGAAUAGGUGAUUAAUGAGGAAUGACUCAUGCUAGUUUGGUAUGUGUUUGAAUGUACAAAUAGUAUUGAUUUGAGUUGAUGAAAUGGAUAGAAUUGAUAUUGUAAGUUUGGUGCAUGAAAUAGCAUGGUUUGGCUGCCUAUUAAUGUAUUGAAAUGGCAUGAAAUGUGGUGUUUUAGGUAUGCUUGAAAAUGGUAAGAAAUAUGGCUUCAACCAAGCCUAUUUUCACUCCACACGGCCAAGCACACGGGCGUGUGACUUAACCGUGUAUGACACAUGGCCUUGGUACACGGCCGUGUGUCCCUUGGGGUACCCUUUCGAAUUAAGUCAGUAUACCCUGCAGGUUUGGUGUAACACCCCUUAACCCCAAACCGUCACCGAAACGAGGUUAUGAAGCAUUACUAGACCUAUCGGACAAUUUACAAUUAAUAUACAAAUAAUUAUUAAACAUAAUAUAAAAUAAUCUUAAAGUCCCUUAAAUGGACCCUCGAGGCCCAAAAUACGAGUUAGGAGUGAUUCGGGACUAAUUCAGGUGCUCGGGGAAUUUUUUAUUUUUAUUUUAUUAUUUUAUUUUGUUUUAUCUUUUUGUGUGAACUCAAUAUAGCCCCUUUAUAAAUAUCUAACAUUCCCUGCAAUUUUCAAACUGAAUACAAUUCAAAACACCAAACUUACCAAAUUUGUCAUACCAUUUUAUUAAACUUAGUACCAAAACACCAAAUAUCAUUCAUUACAACCAAAAUUAUAUAACUUUUUAAAGUGACCAUUACAACACCUAUGUACAUGUCACUUUCAUUUAAGGAAGAAAACAUCACCAAUUUUUUUUCUACUAGAGUCAGGAUCGUUCAUUAAACUAUCCAAUUAACAAUAACAAUAUAAUUUUUUUAGCUAUUCUUCAAUUUCAUUCACAUAUCAUAUGUCUUAAUUUCAAUCACUACAUGAACAUUAAGUUCAUGCCUUUCAUUUCCAAUCUCAAUUUCAGUCCACAAUUCAACUUUCUCACAUUUUCAAUAGUACAAUCAAUCAAAUUAAUUUAACUUUUCCUAUUUUGGUUGUUCACCCUACUAACAAACCUGAACUUUGACAGACACACGGAUUCCAACCCAAACACACCAAUGCGACACAUUGUGCCUAAAAUGGUACAUAGUACCUGAUCAGUAUACGACACAUAAGUGCCUGGAAUAUGGCACAUAAAGUGCCUGAUCAGCAAAGCCUAAAUUUCGUACUCUUCCAAAUCCUAUGGCAUGCCAACUAUAUCUGACUUAGCCCGACUAGUUAAUAUGGUAUUCCAAUUCUCAAUUAAAUUUUCACUUUCAUACUAAAUUUUAUAUCACUAUUCAAUUUCAAUUUCACAUUCAAUCAAUAUACAAUUCAAUUAUACAUACAAACUCACCAUCCAAUCCAAUUCCCAUUCAACUCAAAUAUUAAUACUCACCUUAUGCUCAUUUAUUAAAUAUAAAAUUUAUAUAAAAUAUUUAAUAAAAAGUAAUUUGAAUUAUAGUAAUACAAGCCCGGAUUUAUUCGAUUACUCCUCGACAACUUUUCCCUUUCCUUUCGAUGCUAAUGCUUCGGGUUCUUUGCUAGCUACGAAAAUUAAAAUAAUUAUACCAUUAAUUACAACACUAAUUAUAAGAAAUACAUAUAUCACAAUUGUACAUAUAAAUAUUUUUACAUUUGUAUAUUAUCAUGACGAUCCAUUUGUCUUUCUUUUAUUUAUUUAUCAUACAAAAAUCUUAUAAUAUAAUUAUUUAAUUAAUAAAUAUCUUUAACUUAAAUUUUAAGUAAAUAAAUAAUUAUAAUACAAGUGUAUAUAUAUACAUUAUUACACUUGUACCAUCUUAUCACCAUACACUUGUCUUAAUUUAUUUUAUUUCAUAAUAUAAUAAUAUUAAUAAUAAUAUUUAAAUAGAAAACUAUAAUAAUUAUUAAUAAUUAUAAAAAUAAUAAAUUAAUAACAAAAUCUUAAGAUUUUAUACUCAUUAACCGCCUCAUUCUAAACAAUUAGUCUAAUUGCUUAUUUAGCUCAUUAAGUUUUUCUUAAAUCUAUAAUUAAACUUUCACCUUUUUCGCAGUUACUCUUAAUUAUGCUAAAUUCACCUAAUUAAAACUUAAUUAAGCUCACUACUAGACUUAUAAAUAUUUCUAAUAAUUAUUUACGAACUUGGUUUACUAAGACGGAGGCCCGAUAAUAGCCUUUUUUGAUGCCCGUUAAUUUUGGUUCAUUACAUUUCUCCCCCUCAAUAAAUUUCGUCCUUGAAGUUUACCUGAGAAAAUAUGAGGAUAUUGUGCUCUCAUCAUUUCGUAGUGAGCUUAAUUAAGUUUUAAUUAGGUGAAUUUAGCUCAAUUCAGAGAAAAUAGUAAAAAGGAAUACUAGCUCGGGAAAUAAAAGAGCUAAGAAAUAAACGGGUUCCUCUAGUGAAAGUUUUAUGGAGAAAUCAUAAUGUAGAGGAAGCAAUCAUUUCUUCCGGUUCCCAAGUUGCUUCCUCUACAUUAUGAUUUAUCCAUAAAACUUUCACUAGAGGAACCCAUUUAUUUCUUAGCUCUUUUAUUUUCCGAGCUAAUAUUCGUACUGGCUCUUCUUCAUAGGAUAAAUCUUAUCUAAUUUCAAUUUAAUCCUUUUUCGCAAUUACUCUUAAUUAAGCUAAAUUCGCCUAAUUAAAACUUAAUUAAGCUCACUACUAGACUCAUAAAUAUUUCUAAUAAUUAUUUACUAACUUGGUUUACUAAGAAGGAUGCCCAAUAAUGUGUUUUUUCAAUGCCCGUAAAUUUUGAGUCAUUACAUUUGGCAUGGCCUACACACACGGCGUGUCUACUGGUCGUGUGUGGCACACGGGCUGGCAUAUGGGCAUGUGGUCAGACGUGUAACCCAAGUCAGUAACCCCUCUAGAUUUCACACGGCCUAGCACAUGGGCAUGUCUUCGGUCGUGUGGUGCAAGCCAGUAUGUAUGCCUUGUUUUUACAUGGCCUGUGACACGGGCGUGUUUGGUGGCCAUGUGAGGCACACGGCCUGUUCACACGGGCGUGUGACCCUUAAAACCUUGAAAAUUUUCUAAGUUUUCCAAAGUUUUCAAAUAUUAUCGGUUUAGUCCUGAAUCUCUUUUAAGCAUGUUUUAAGGUCUCGUAGAGCCAUAAAAGGGUACACUUUUUUAUAUGACACCUUUAAAUGCUCCAAGCAGUGAUGGGUUCCAUGCCUUGUUCUAUCAGAGUCAGUGGGAACAUGUUGGUGCUUCGGUUUGUGAGUGGGUCAAAAGGGUUUUUUUAUGUGAGCAAAUGAAUCCGAGUUUAAGUAAUACACUCAUUAUACUUAUCUCCAAGAUUUAAAACCUAGAUAAUUUUUUCUCAGCUCCGCCUUAUCAUCUUUUGCUCUGUCAUUUAUAAACCAGUUAUUAAGGUUAUAGCAAUCACUUCAAAGUUAUAUUUCCGAAGAUCAUCACUCCUGAGUAGGUUGGGUUUGUAGCGGGUGGAAAUAUCAUAGACAAUAUCAUUUUGCUCAAGAGGUUGUUCACUCUAUGAGAAGUAAACAGAAGAACAAAAUAUGGAUAUUUAUCAAAAUUAAUCUAGAGAAAGCGUAAGACACAUAUUGGGAUUUCAUAGAUGCUUCACUCCAGGUUACAAGCAUCCCCAACUUUCUCCGUAAUGUUAUUAUGUUUGUUAUUUCUAGUUCUUCUGUGUAGAUUCUUUAGAAUAAGGAUCCGAUUCAAAAAUUUAGGCUAGUGAGGGGUGUUUAUUAGGGUUGGCCUCUAUCCCCUUAUCUAUUUAUUUUGUGUAUGGAGUGGUUGGGCCACAGUAUCCGUUUAGUCAUUGAUUCUGGUGAUUGGUCACAUAUACAUCUAUCACGCACAGGCCAGCCACUGUCUCAUCUCUUUUUUGAAGACGAACUGAUUCUCUUUGGCCAUAUGGAUAAGCGCCAAGUGAAGAUCAUUAAAGGCAUCCUGGAUAAUUUUUGUAAUUUUUUAGGUCAUAAGAUUAAUAUGCAGAAAACCAACAUCUUCUUUUCAAAAGGUCUGGAUGGUACCUUAGAAAGAUGUAUAAGUAACAUUUUUAGCUAUUAGGAAGUACAAAACCUAGGGACUAAUCUAGGAGUGUAUCUCUUUCACCACAAGGUAACAUACAAUACCCUAUGAUUCGUUGUUGAUAGAGUGAGAAGUAAGCUUUCAAGUUGGAAUGCUAGAAAACUCUUUCUAGCCCAUAGGGUCACUUUGGCCCUGUCAGUGUUACUUGUAAUCCCAAGCUAUUUCAUGCAAUCUAUAAUGAUCCCUGAAGGUUUGUGCGAUGAAAUUGAAAAAUAGUCAGACAAUUCAUAUGAGGAUCCUAUAAUGAGUUUAAAAAGAUGGGUUUAGUGAGCAAGGAUCUAGUGUGUCAACCUAGGGAUCAUGGUGGUCUUGGGCUGAGGCAUUUGAGGGACCAUAAUACUUUUUUUAUGAUGAAGACUAGUUUUAAUAUUAUAACAAAUACCAACGUUCUUUUGGUUCGGGUUCUCAAAUCAAAAUACAGAGUGCAAAAUUGUUUACCAGAAUCCCUUUCGAGUGGGCAUGGCUACUUCUUAUGGUGUUCUCUCGUCAAAGUAUGGCCACUUAUUCGUGAGAACUUACUUUGGUCAGUUCGUAAUGAGGAAGAUAUUAAUUACUGGAAAGAUCUUUGGAUUCCAAAGAUUGGCCUUCUAAUCGAGCAGAUCCCAUAUGUUUCCAACUUUGACAUGGACUGUUCUCUUAGGGAUAUGGUUACGGGUGAUGGUUCUUGGAAUCUUAACUUUUUUCCCCUUUGGUGCAUCAAGGAGAUCAUUGCUAGGAUUGUAGGAAUUCCACCUCUUCAUCCAUAUGCUGGCUCGGAUAGGGUCAUGUGGGGGAGUUCUUUAACGGGUUAUUUCUCAUUGAAAAGCGCUUAUGGUAAACUACAGGAGGAAGAUUGGUUUGAAAGAAUCUAUUUGGCAGCUUUCCUUGAAAGUUUCAAGGACCUUAACGGGUUAGAUUCUUCAUUUGGAUUGUUCUAAAAUGUCAAUUACUCGCGAAUGUAGAAAGGGUAAGGCGAGGAAUAAGGAGUGUCAACACUUGUAUAAUUUGUGGGCAUGACCUAGAAGAGCUACUGCAGGUCCUUAAAGAUUCCCUGUGGCUAGGGAGAUUUGGAACAAGCUUAUUCCUAUUGAAAAACAAGUUCGUUUUUACUCUGGAUCCCUUCAUGAAUGGAUCUUUUUGGAUGAUUUCUUAAUGUAUAUGGAAAAAUCACAACAGUUUUGUUUUUCAGGAUAUCACUUGAAGCACGGAGGAAAUCAUCAAGGUUUCUUAUAGUUGGGCAAUGCAAUAUGCAUCCUUUUAUAGGUUGCCUUCACAGAGGACACGUAGUUCUCCUACUAGUCCGCACUUGGCACAUAAUUGGGUGCAUUUGAACACAGAUGGGUCGAUCAAAAUUGAGGAUGAUUUUGCAGCAGUUGGAAGCUUGGUACAAGAAUGCAAUAGUGAAUGGAUUUUCAGUUUAUACAGAUAUUUGGGUUGUAAUGUGUUGGAGGCUGAACUGUGUGGCAUCUUGGAUGGGUUGAAUCUGUCACUAGAUCAGGGUUUCAAGUACAUCUUAAUUCAAACGGAUAGUUGUAAAGUUGUUAACGCUAUUCAAGAGGCAUUUGUAGGAGAUUCCAAGUCCACUAUGAUUAGAAGAAUCCAUCAACUCUUGUCAAAAGUCCUUCAUUGGAGCAUUCAACAUCCCUCGAGAUGAGAACAAGUUUGCAGAUAGUUUGGUUAAGAUGGUUCGUGAUAAGAGAACAAGAUUGCGCCUUUUGGAAGAUCUCCGCUUGAGGGAGUAGCUUAAUUUCUUUUGUUUGCUUUUAUUUUUUUUCACAAAAAAAAACAUGUUUUUUUAUUUUCAUUUUUGUAAAAAUGUAGAAAAUAAAAAUGAUUUUUCAGAAAUAAAAAUAGAUAAUGAAAAAUAUUUUUAAAAACUAAAACGAGUUUUUUUUCAGUUUCCAAUUAAUUAAAAUUUAAUUGACAUGUUAUAUUAAUUCAAUCAAAUAUUUAAAUAAUAAUAUAGAUACGGAAAUAUUAAUUGUUUCCCUUAAACAACUCCAGCUAAAUUACACUUUAUUAAAGACUUAUUUUAUGUUGAAUGUAGUUUUCAAGGUCAAUUAUUUUUAUUAUCUAUACUAAUAUAACUAUUUUGAUUUAAUUUGUUGUCAUGAGUUAAAAAUAUCAUCUCAUAAAUUACAAAUAAAAAUUGAUAAUUACUUACUUAAAAAAUACUAUAUUUUUUUACAAAAAUAAUAUGUUUUUAUUACAAAGGGUAAACCACACUAGUAGUCACCCGACUAUUAGUAACUAUUUUUUAAGUCACUCAACCAUAAAAAGUUACAAAAUGGUCAACUAAUUAUCUGACCUUUUCUGUUUUGGUGACAAGCCGUUUAAUAUUAAUAGAAAGAUAACUUGACAGCUUUUAAAUUUGACAUAAUAGCAACUUUAACCAAAUUUAUACAUUGAAUCAAUCAGUCUUGAUUCUAAAAAAUUGAACCCUCAACAUUUACGCAUUAUGUAAUUGAUCUUUUUUUUUUGUAGCUUUACUUUCUUUCUCUUUUUUUUUAACACUGAAGGUUAAUUUUAAAUGAAUGAGAAGCGAUGAAAUUAUUAUCUUGAAUUUUGGAUGUUUCCAUUUUUGGUAUAUUUUCAAUCAAAAUUAACUGAUAAAAUUUAUUUUUUUUAGCUUUUUAGGUGAAAAUGUCACAAAGAAAAGUAAUUUUGCAAAAAAAAAAAAGAAGAUCAAAUUACACGACGGGCAAAUGUUGGAGGUUAAUUUUUUUUUUUUUAGAAUCAAAGCUUAAUAUAUACAAUAUAUAACUGUUGAGGGUUAAUGUUAAUGUUAUGCCGCUAGCUAUUUAACAACUGGUGACCAGAAAAAGCAAAAUUGAAUAAUCGAGUAACCAUUUUAUAACUUUCUAUAAUAAGGUGACCAAAAACGAAACAUAGAAAUAGUUGAGUGACUGAUAGUGUUUCAAAAUGUAUUAUUCUAUUAGGACCAUGUUAAUACAAAAAUUCCUUUGAUUCACCCCUAAUUAUUAGUAGUUAUUGGUUCAUUCCUAACUAAGCAUACAUUAAAUACAUGCCAUUAACCCCAAUUUAUUUAUUUAUUCUUGCAUCUGCCCUAAUCCAAAUGUGAUAAACAUGAACACUUGUAGGAUUAUUGUCCAGUUCUGCCUGUAUGAUCCAACUUUGGAUUAAAAAAAUUUUGUUUCCAUGUCAACUUUACUUAAAUUCAAAUUAAAUAAAAAAUUAUUUAAAUUUAAUUAUAAUAUAUAAAAAUAUUUUUAUUAUUAUGUGAACAAAAAAAGAAAUUGAAAAAUUAAAUAAAAUUCAACAUUCAAAAACCGUAGCAUGAACCAACCUAGUUUCUUGACAGUGAUCGAAUCAAACAGAUCAUUAGUUCACUGUCCGAUUAAUUUAAUUGAUUUAUGUUAAUUUGAUUUAGUUGGUCCGCAUUGAUUUAUGAAUUAAUUAAUUUUGUAUCUCUUAAUAAAUUUUAAAUUUAACUAAUAGACUAAUCCAAUCUAAUUCGAAUAAGAUUGUUUACACCGUAUUUGCAAUGUCAUUAAAGAGUAUUGUACGAUGCUGAAAUAGUAAAUCCGCCGGCUGAAGCCUCUAGCUUGAAAAUGGCCACCUAACUCAGCCGACCUAGCCGGUUGGUAAAUUAUUCAAAAUAGUAGAUUUACAUAUUUUUAAAUUAUUAAUAUUUUAUGUAAACCAUACCUAUCGAAUUUUAAAUAAAUUAAAAAAUUGAUGUUGUUCAUUGAAUGUUUAUAAAUUUAAUUAUUAAUUAAUUUUUUAAAUAAUAUAUCUUUUAAAAUUAUUUUUUUUGGUAAAUUGUAAAAAUAGUCACUUUUGUUUGCCUCAUAUUAUAUUUUAGUCACUUAUGUUUGAAACGUUACGUUUUAGUCACUUACAUUAUCGUUUUGUUACGAAGUGGUCACUCUACUGUUAAGCUCCAUUAACUUCCUAACAACGGUCCUACGUGGUAGUCCAAAUGGGCUUUAAAUGUUAACUUGGAUGUCCUACGUGGCAGUCCAAAUUAAAUUUAUUUAAUUAAAAAUCUAUUUUUAUCUCAGCAACUGAACAUCUAAAUUGGCACUUAAAACCCAUUUGGAUUACUAUGUAGGACUGCCAUUAGGGAUGUAAUGGAGUUUAACGGUAAAGUGAUCACUUUGUAACAAAACAAUAACAUAAAACAUAACAUUUCAAACAUAAGUGACUAAAAUGUAAUCUGAGACAAACAAAAAUGACUAUUUUUGUAGUUUAUCCUAAUUUUUAAGUCAUUAUUCAAAUUGUUUGAACAUAAUUAAAAUAUAUUAUUUAAUAAUUCAAUCAUAAUAAAAAAAUUAAUUUUAAUUAAAGCACUAUCAUAUUCAAUGCAAAAAAUAAAUUUGCUUUAAUACAAAAAAAAUUAUUCAAAAUAAUUUACUUUGAUAAUUCGCUAAUAAAAUGAAGUACUAUAAUUAAUAAAAUCAGUUUCUGAAUAAUGUAUUUUAAUUAUUUUUUAGUUAUUUUAAAAAUUAAAUUCUUCAUUAUUGAAAUUUCAUUUAAAUUUUAAUAUAAAUAAUAUUCUUAAAAAUAUUUAAUUAUGCUUUAACAUAAAUAUAAUUUAUAAAUAAAUAAAAAAACCACUUCACAAACUAAUUAGCCAGAUAAAAAUUAACAAAAUCCAAAAACUUAUAAAACAUAUAUUAAUAUUUUAUUUUACAACAAAUACAUCAAUUUUCCUCAAUUUAAAUUCCUCCUCAAAAUAUAAAAAAACCUUUAUUAUUCUAUGAUUUAUGCAUACGUGAUUUUUUUUUUACUUUUUUUUGAAAAUGUUUUAUUUUUUAUAAUAAUUUUUUUACUCGUCAUUUUAAUUUCAAGUUUAAACUUGUAUUAAUUAUUUUUUAUUUUAUGUCUAAUUAUUUUAACACAUGUAUUAAUUAAAUUUUUUCAUUAUAUUAUUAUACUAGUAAUCAAAUGAAACAUUAACACUAUAUAUAAUGUAGUCAGCGAUAAUUUUAUUCUAAUUUCUAUUAUAGUUUAUUUUCUUUUUAAAAAUGAUAUUUUUAAUAAUAAUACUCCGAAAUUGCUAUGUUCAUCGGUCGCUUAACUCAAAUUAUCAUAUCAACCUCAAAGAUUUGCUUAAUAUUUGAGAAAGUUUUAACAUAAGUAUUAACUUUAAAAAAUGAGGUUGAGAAAUAAAAUUAAUCCCAUUUAAGAUAGUAUAAGAUUACAAUUUUUAAAAUCUAAACUCGAUCAUUUUUCGAGUUAAUAAUAUAAUUAUUUUUUUUUCCUUUAUUGCUCUGUAAUUUGUAUUAUACGUGAAUUACAUAUUAAAAAAAUUCCAAGAGUAACAGCUAUGUAUUUUAUAGCUUUAUAGAAGCAUAAGAACGCGGCAUACCUUAAUGAGGAAGGAGAAUUUUUCCCUAGCAAAACGGCCAACCCACCGGUUCAGUACCAGUUCAACAUUUUCCCAAUGAUUCAGCUCCAAAACCUUCUGGAAGUGAUCGCCUUCUACACGCAAACGAUACCGUUUAGGGAUAUGGGCCUUCCUGAGUCCACUCACCUGAGUGGAAACCUCGUGCUAGCCCUUGUUGUAGUCGACGAACCCGGAUUUAUGUUCCUCAAACGCGGUGUCGUUAUUGCGUUUCUAGCAAAGGAUAAGGGAUUUGGAGGUAGUGGAGUGAGUGGAAAUUGGCGAGUUGAGAGGGAAUUUGAUAAGGAGGGGAUGGGAUGAAGUGGUCAUUUAAUUAGAUACGGAGGUUUUGACGGUUGGAAUGUUUGGAAGACCACCGCAGGAGUGGAAUGGUCAUUCAUUGAUUUGCGUUUCGUCAUGUUUUUAUCCACUAAAAUAAUGGACUAACCCCUCCUACUACUCCUUCCUAAAUUAUAAGCUAUCGUUAUCGUUGUUGUUUUCCCUAUUAUUUUUCUCUUUAGUCUCACUGAAUGAUUGAUCUCUCUUUCUAUUUCAAUGAAUCCAUCACAUCUAUUGUUGUUCUUUUAUUCCUCAAUGAUUUUUCCUCUGGAUAUACCCCAUUUUUGUAAAAUGAGUUUUCUUCCGGGACAGAAUAUAUUUAGGGGCAAAAUUAUCCAUAUAUGCCAUUUAAAAAAUAAAAAAAAUCUUGGUAUAUUUUUAUUUUGUUGAUAUCAUUAUUAGUUUUUUGAGUUCAAUAUAUAAUAUUUGAGUGUGCUUAUAUUAAUAUAAAUAGGACAAAGACUAUAUAAUUCAGAUGCAUAUACACAACUUAAGUGUCAGAGCACCACGCAUUAUAGAGUGGUACUUAAAUGAUGUAAGAUUCUUGCAUGCGUCUCAGAUACAUAUACAUAUACUAUAUUUUGACCGUUUUGUUCCUCCAAGGUAGAGCCACAACUCAGUUUGUUGUUAUCUGAUGAAUCUUUGUCCCUUUUUUUCUUCUCUCUUUUUCUUUUUUUCUCUUAACUCUAGUCACUGUCGUUCAUGGCCUUCUCUGGCCAAUCGUCAUUUCCAAAUGGCUCCUCUUUUGCUCUUCUCAAGUCUCACUUUAGAUUUCCCAAUAAGCCUUCAAAAUAUCAAUAUUAAAAACUUAAAGCUUCGAACAAGGCCUCAACAGAUCUUCGUCAUCCACCAUCUGAUCACCACCAUAUUCUGACCACAGCUUUUUUUCGACCAACCAUGACUCUUAACCACUCGGAUCAUCGACCUGGCUUGAGCUCUCCAACCCACAAAACCCAAAAUGGGUGUGGGUUUCUUCUCUUUUGAUUCUCUUCUUCUUUAGUUUUUUUUUUUUUUUACUUCCCUCUUUUGAUGCAAGCCAAUUUGGGAUUCUUGCUCUUUUUUUGUUGGUUUGAUUUUGGAUGCUUGCUAUUUGGUAUUUUAGUUUUUGCUGAUUUUUGUUGUUUUGUCGUCGAUUUUGGUUUGAAGCUUCAUAUCAUUGCACAAGCAGAAGCUCCAACUAAACCGAUGCCGAUGAAUGGGUUGUGAUGGGCAAUUUUAGGUAAAUUCCAUGUCAAUCUGCCACAUCAGCUAAUUGCGUUAAUUGGGUUUCCAAUGUGGCAAGUUAAUUGUCCACAUCAGCGAUCCCAUUAAGACAACAAUAGAAAAUAUUAAUAAAUGACUGAUUUGUCAAUUUUAAAUAACGUUAAUGAUUGUUUUGUUAUUUUUCUAAAGUUAAGUGACUGAAAUAAAAUCUAUAUAACUGCUUUGUCAGCUACCCCAAAGUUAGUGACUAUUUGUGUAAUUUACCCAAAAUAGAAUUUAUUGCAUCUUUAUUUCAUUUUUAAUAAUUUACAAUAUUAAAAUGAUAAAAUAUAUAAUUUUAUAUUAUUAUCUAUUUAUUUUUAUAAUUAAAUUUAAAUAAAUUUAUUUUAAAAAAUAUUUAAUUGAAAUUCAGGUUAGGCCGGGUUGAAAACAAAAAUAAAUUCAUUAAUACACACAGGAAUGGAUCGUGGUUGUGGCAGUAUACUAGAAAUAUGAGACGUUGCUCGCUGCUUGAAGCUGAAUUGUGGCUCAUUUUGGACGGUUUGAAUCUUCUUCGCAUCCAAGGCUUUAAGCGUGUGGAGAUUGAGAGCGACAGUGCUGCUGCUGUCCGCAUCAUAUUGGAUGAGUCUGCUGCUAAGCAGAGUAGAUCGCACAAUUCGAGUUCUUUAGAAUCGGCAAAGGAAGGUCAAGAUACAUCACAUUGUCCGGGAAGCCAAUGCGUUUGGCCUAAGCAGGCUGCUGAAUCCACCACCUGCUGCACCGAGGAGCAUUCUUUGCAAGGACAGUACAGGGACUGUUGGGUAUAGGCUGAAAUCACUACCCUCCUUUAUAUAAACAUUCAACCCUUUAUUACCCAACACACGUAGAUCAAUACCAUUAAGUCACCUUAAUAUUUAUUUCAAUUCCUUUUAUUCUCUCAACUCAUGUUUAGUUGUUCAUACAAAUGCCCCUGCUUUAAAAUUCACAAGCAAUAUUGGUUUUCCCCUAAUUUCUUAACAUCACCACCAAAAAGAUCAAGAAGUUGCUAAGAUCAAGAUCAACAAGCUACACAAGUCAGAACAAAAUCAACAAUAUUGAAAAUAGACACUAAACCUCACUCUAGUUUCCACAAUCUUUUAUCACUCUGCAAUGGUUAUGUACAACUGAUUCACAUUGCAAGUGAUGAUCUUUACACAAUUUGUGAAACAUUUCAGAGCAAGAUUGAUUUAUCAGAGUAUAUGAUAAGAUCCAUAAAUAAGGUGGCAGUGAAUAUAUCUGCAGAAAAGCCCUUACCAACCAUUUCCUUAAGAAGUUGCGUUGCCUUUGAAGUAUAGCUGUUGCGAAGGAACCCCCGAAUCAUUACAUUAUAACAGCAGCUAUCAGGCAAACAGUCAUUAUCUCCCAUGCUCCCAAACAACCUGUAUGCUUCAUCUGGCAAUCCCUCUUUACACAGUCUAUUAAUCAUUACACAAUAUGUGUAAACAUCCGGUUUUAAACCAUUGUUUGAGAGUUGAUGAAAUAAUUCCUUGGCAACUUCGAUAUGCCCAGCUUUACAAAACCCAUCAAUUAGGAUAGUAUACAGGACAAUAUCAAGUUCCAACCCACUGUUUCGCAUUGCUUGAAAAAGUUUCAAUGCCUCUUCGAUAUGACCUGUUUUGCAUAAACCAUCCUGCAAAAUCAAACAGGUCGCUAUAUCUGGAACUUGUCCAGAAGCUAGCAUCUUUCUAAAAAGUUCACAUGCAGUUGAAACUUUCCCUAACUGAAACAUACUCUGCAUAAGAAUGCUGAAAGUGACAGUAUGCGGGAUUGGUCCCUUUCGAGAUAUUUCAUGAAAGAGUUCCAUUGCUUUGUCUAACCUUUUACCUUUGCAAUAUCCAUUGAUCAUGGUGUUGUAAGUAACUAUAUUAGGUGCACAACCCUUCUCAAUCAUCAAGUUGAAAACUCUUCUAGCUUUAUCCAUUUUGUUCCGCAAGCAAUGACCAUUAACUAAUGCAUUAUAGGUAACAACAUCAGGCUCGAUUUCUAGCUUUAUCAUUGAGUCAACAAAAUCCUCAGCUUCAGAGACCAUCCCUUCCUUGCAAUGCGCAUCAACCAAUGUAUUAUGCGUGACAACAUCAGGCUCAAUGCCUUGCUUUCUCAUUGUGUCAACGAUCUCUACAGCUUUAGAAAUCGUUCCUUCCUUGCAAAGAGCAUCAAUCAAUAAAGUAUAUGUGACAAUAUCAAGUGAAAUAUUGUUAUCAGCCAUUUCAUUUAAAAGCCUUGUUGCCUCCUCCUGCUGGCCCAAAUUACACAUACCAUGAAUUAAGCAAGUGUAAGUAAUGAUAUCUGGUCUAAUGCCCUUAACUUCAUUUCAGAUAAGAGAUUGAGAGCCUCCUGUAACAAACCGUUUUUACAAAGGCAGUCAAUGACAGUGUUAUAUGCUACAAUAUUGGGUUCAUAACCUCUGCUUUCCAUCAGCCUUAGAAACCUAACAGCUCUAUCAGUAUUUCCGGUCUUACACAACCCCUUAAGUACUGUACUGUAAACAAUCAAAUUAGGUUGAUACCCUUUUUCAGUCAUUUCAUCGAACAUACAAACGGCCUCAGAAAUCUUACCUUGAUUACAAAGCCCAUUAAUCAAAGUUGAAAAAGUUACAGCACUAGGUUCAACACCUAACUUCUUCAUUUUCCCAAAAACAGAAAACCCAAAAUCAAUUCGACCUAAUUGACAAAAGCAAUUAAUCAAGAUGCUCAUAGAAUAAACAUUAUGGGAAACGCCUAAUAAGUCCAUCUGGCUACACAUAGGAACAACAAUGGCAUAUUGUUUCAUUCUAACAAUGGCUGCAAAUAAUUUAGUGAAUUCCACAAUUGAAGGCACUGGGUACCUGCCAAUCAUCUUAUUGAACAAACUCAAAGCAUGAUCAACAUUAUCGAAGCGGUGGUCUCUUUUUCCCUUUCCUCUAACAGGCAUGGACAUGGGUUUCUUACUUAGGCAUUCGAUGUGGGUAGCAAUGGUGUUAGAAGAAGAAGAAAAAGAGUGGAAAUUAGAAAGAAGGCUUCCAGCAUUAACAACGGAACGAAGAAUAAAAGAAGAAGGAAGCCUACCCAUAUCUUGAAAGCAGAAAUGGCAGCGGCAGUAGCAGCAGAAGUGUAAAUUUUGGGUUGCGUAAUUUGGGUUUUUAAUUUUUUUAAUGUGAAUAAUAUUUAAUAAAAAAAUUAAACUUUAUUUUUAAAUGCAAUCUUCAGUUAUUAUUAACAUUAUUAUAUACUUAUAAAUCUUCCUUUUAAAUUUAAUAAAAAAUUAUUAAAUUUAAAUUUAAAUUUUUAGACUAACUUGAAAAAAAUAUACUAAGAUUACAAUACAAUUAAAACUUAAAUCUAUAAAAUACUCUAUUUUUAUAAUUUAUAUUUUAUCGAUGCAUCUAUGAGCGAGCAAAACUUGAUUUCGAGUUAAUCGAAUCGAGUUAUUCAAUUUUUUCGAGUCAACUAAAAUAAGUAAUUCGAGUUUAAGUCGAUUCGAAUUUUACAAUUCAAUAAGUUAAAUAAUUCAAAUAACAUAUUGGUGUAAAUAACCUUUUGGUCCCUAUCAAUUUUGAAAAUAAGCAAAUUAGUCUCUCUAUCAACAAAAACUACAAAUAAAAUUAAAAAAUAAAAAUAAUUUUUAAAUAUUUAAAUAUUUAUAAAUUUUCAAAUUUUAUACUUUUAAAAAAUUUUAAAAUUUUAAAAAAAUCUAAAGAAUAUAUAAAGAAAAUUUAAAAUUUUCUAACAUAAAAAUUAUGGGACCUAAAUAAGUUAAUUAUUAAUUCUCGUUUAUAUAUAUUUUUUCUUUGAUAAAGGUUUCAAAUAUAUAUAUUUUUUCUCAUGCGCCUUCUCAUUAUCAUACUUCUCAUAGUACAACAUAUAUAUUUUCUCAAUACCACACUUCUUUUUUUUAAUCGACCAACUGCGGAUCAUUUUAUAUAUAUAUAUUACAAUUAUAACAUUACAUAAUAUAAAUAUUAUAAACAAUUAUAAAAUAAGUAUAUAAAGAGAUAAAGUAAUUAAAAUAAAACUGUCAACCAAUGUUUCCAUGGUUAUAUUUCUAGAAAAAUAAAUGAAAAAAAUAAAAUUACAUAAUUUUUUGUCAUAAGGCAUUCCUUGGAUCUUCAACCGUCAUCGCUCCAUCUUCUUCUUGUUAUGGACUCUUUCUUAAUAAAGUAACUAAAAAUAACCUGAAUAAACAAUUCAAAAUGCUCUAAAUCUAAUGUCAAACUCAACUAAAAAAAACCCAAAAUGAUCCAAACCAAAAUGAAAAUAUUCGAAAUAACUCAAACCCGAUGGAAUUUUGAAAUCACAAACCUGAAACUAAUGUAAUUUUAUUUUGAAAUUUAGUUUAAUGUAAUCUAUGAUUCGAAGGGUUGUGAUAUGUUUUUUACUUAGUACCUUAAUUAAUUUUUAAUUAUUUUACAAGUAUUUUUUUACAUUUAAGCAUGAGUUAAUGUUACAAACCAAAUAACGCUAACCCAAUUUCAUAAAAAAAAAUAAAGCUACUUCAAUUGAAAAUUAAUUAAAAAUUAAAUAAAUUUAAUUAAUAAAUAUAAUAAUAUUUACUAACAAUUUAUUUUAAAAUAUUACUACCUGUCUUAGUCCCAAAGGCCCAUCUGAAAUUUAGAUAAAAAUAUUAAGUUUGAAAAUGGACUUGAAUAAAAAAAAUUAGACUCGUUUAAAAUGAGUCUGACUCGAACAAAUAUAAAAUGUGUUUAUAUAAUAUUUAAACUCAGCCAAUGAACUCCUCGACUAUUUACAUUCCCUUACCCACAUUUUUACUUAAAAAAGUACCGACCUUUUACUUUAUAAAAAAUUAACCAUCUUUUUAAAGAGAAAAUACUUUUUCAUGCAUUAUUUUUCCAAAAAGAAAUUAAAUAAAAGACCUCCAACAUAAUCUUUGUAUCAAAUUCUAGUAUAAAUGUAAAUUAAAAGUAACAUGAAUUAUUUUAUUUUGUUAAGUUAAAAUUAAUUAUAUCACUUUUAUACAAAUACAAGGUAAUUUCUUUUUGAAAUAUAUAUUUUCUGUAAAUAAAAUUAGAUUAUGAGUAAAAGAAAUUAUGUAAAAAUUUAUAUUUCUUAAAAUAUUAUAAAAGAAUCAAAUCAAACUUUGGUUGAAAUAAUAAAGUUGGAAGUUUAAGAAGUAUGACAUUAAAGUUCAAAUCCCAUCAUGUGAAUUUCUAUUAAAUUUAUAUCAAAAGAUAAAAACAUCCUCCAAUAAUAUAACCUAUUUUGUAAAAAGUGUUUGGUUAGAAUUUUUAAAAAUUAUUUUUGGAAGAUGAAAAUAUACAGAAUUUAAAAUAUAAUUUUUUUUAUUGUUUUCACUAAAAAUGCUUUGUAAAAUUGAAAAUGAUGAAAACAAUAGAUUUUAGCUUGAUUCAAAUCCAUAUAGACACAAAAAAAUAUUAAAGACUUUGGAUUACUGGAAAGAUCUUUGGAUUCCAAAGGUUGGCCUUCUUAUCAAGCAGAUCCCAUAUGUUUCAAACUUUGACAUGGACUGUUCUCUUAGGGAUAUGGUUACGGGUGAUGGUUCUUGGAAUCUUAAUUUCUUUCGCCUUUGGUGCACCAAGGAGAUCAUUGCUAGGAUUGUAGGAAUUCCACCUCUUCAUACAUAUGCUGGCUCGGAUAAGGUAAUAUGGAGGAGUUCUUUAACGGGUUCUUUCUCAUUGAAAAGCGCUUAUGGUAAACUUCGGCAGGAAGAUUGGAGUUUGAAAGAAUCUAUUUGGCAGCUUCCUUGGAAGUUUCAAGGACCAUAAUGGUUAGAUUCUUCAUUUGGCUCGUUCUAAAAUGUCGAUUACCCAUGAAUGUAGAAAGGGUAAGGCGAGGAAUAAGGAGUGUCAGCACUUGUAUAAUUUGUGGGCAUGACCUAGAAGAGCUACUGCAUGUCCUUAGAGAUUGUCCUAUGGCUAGGGACAUUUGGAACAAGCUUAAUCCUAUUGAAAAACAAGUUCGUUUUUAGUUUGGAUCCCUUCAUGAAUGGAUGACAGAAAACCUCCAAACAAUGUUAUCUUUUGGUUCGAAUAGAAUUGAUUGGUCUUGUCUUUUUGGGAUGAUUUCUUAAUGUAUAUGGAAAAAUCGCAAUAGUUUUGUUUUUCAGGAUAUCACUUGAAGCACGGAGGAAAUCAUCAAGGUUUCUUAUGGUUGAGCAAGACAGUAUGCAUCCUUUUCGAGGUUGCCUUCACACAGGACAUGUAGUUCUCCUACUAGUCCACACUUGGUACAUAAUUGGGUGCAUUUGAACACAGAUGGGUGGACCAAAAUUGAGGAUGAUUUUGCAGCAGUUGGAAGCUUGGUACGAGAAUGCAAUAAUGAAUGGAUUUUUAGUUUCUGCAGAUAUGUUGGAGGCUAAACUAUAGGGCAUCUUGGAUGGAUUGAAUCUGUCACUAUAUCAAGGUUUCAAGUAUAUCUUAAUUCAAACGGAUAGUUGUAAAGCUGUUAACACCAUUCCAAAGGCAUUUGUAGGAGAUUCCAAGUCCGCUCUGAUUAGGAGAAUCUAUCAACUCUUAUCAAAAGUCCUUCAUUGGAGCAUUCAACAUCCCUCGAGAUGAGAACAAGACUGCAGAUAGUUUGGUUAAGAUGGUUCACGAUAAGAGAACAGGAUUGCGCCUUUUGGAAGAUCUUCGCUUGGGGGACUGGCUUAAUAUCUUUUGUUUGCUUUUAUUUUGUUUCACAAAAAAAAUGUUUUAUUUUAUUUUCAUUUUUGUAAAAAUUAGAAAAUAAAAAUAUUUUUUUAGAAAUAAAAAUAGAUAAUGAAAAAAAAUUUCAAAAACUAAAACGAGUUUUUUUUUCAAUUUCCAAUUAAUUAAAAUUUAAUUGACAGAUUACAUUAAUUCAGUCAAAUAUUUAAAUAAUAAUAAUAUAGAUAUGGAAAUAUUAAUUGUUUCCCUUAAACAACUCCAGCUAAAUUACACUUUAUUAAAGACUUAUUUUAUGUUGAAUGUAGUUUUCAAGGUCAAUUAUUUUUAUUAUCUAUACUAAUAUAACUAUUUUGAAUUAAUUUGUUGUCAUGAGUUAAAAAUAUCAUCUCAAUAAAUUACAAAUAAAAAUUGAUAAUUACUUACUUAAAAAUACUAUUUAUUUUUUUUACAAAAAUAAUAUGUUUUUAUUUCAAAGGGUAAACUACACUAGUAGUCACCCGACUAUUAGUUUUUUUUUUUUAAGUCACUCAACCAUAAAAAGUUACAAAAUGGUCACCUAAUUAACGGACCUUUUCUUUUUUGGUCACUAGCAGUUAAAUAUUAAUGGAAAGAUAACUUGACAGCUUUUAAAUUUGACAUAAUAGCAACUUUAACCGAAUUUAUACAUUGAAUCAAUCAAACUUGAUUCUAAAAAAUUGAACCCUCAACAUUUACGCAUUAUGUAAUUUGAUCUCUUUUUUUUUUUUUUGCAGCUUUACUUUGUUUCUUUCUUUUUUGUAACACUGAAGGUUAAUUUUAAAUGAAUGAGAAGCGAUGAAAUUAUUAUCUUGAAUUUUUGGAUGUUUUCAUUUUUGGUUAUUUUCAAUCAAAUUUAACUGAUAAAAUUUAAUUUUUUUAGCUUUUUAGGUGAAAAAGGUCACAAAGAAAAGCAAUAUUGCAAAAAAGAAGAAGAUCAAAUUACACGAUGGGUAAAUGUUAGAGGUUAAUUUUUUUUAGAAUCAAAUGCUAAAUAUAUACAAUAUAUAAAUGUUGAGGGUUAAUGUUACUAUUAUACCGCUAGCUAUUUAACAACUAGUGACCAAAAAAGGUAAAAUUGAAUAAUCGAGUGACCAUUUUAUAACUUUCUAUAAUAAGGUGACCAAAAACGAAACAUAGCAAUAGUUGAGUGACUAAUAGUGAUCGAAUCAAACAGAUCAUUAGUUCACUGUUUGAUUAAUUUAACUGAUUUAUUUUAAUUUGAUUUAAUUUGUCCGUACUGAUUUAAGAAUCAACUAAUUUUGUAUCUCUUAAUAAAUUUUGAAUUUAACUAAUCGACUAAUCCAAUCUAAUUCAGAUAUUUGCAAUGUCAUUAAAGAGUAUUGUAAGGUGCGGAAAUAUUAAAUCCGCCGGCUCAAGCCUCCAGCUUGAAAAUGGUCACCUAACUCAGCCGACCUAGCCGGUUGGUAAAUUGUUCAAAAUAGUAGAUUUACAUAUUUUUAAAUUAUUAAUAUUUUAUGUAAACCAUACCUAUCGAAUUUUAUGUAAAUUAAAAAAAUAGAUGUUGUUCAUUGAAUGUGAUUUUAUAAAUUUAAUUAUUAAUUAAUUUUUUAAAUAAUAUAUUUUUUAAUUAAUUUUUAGGGUAAAUCGUAAAAAUAGUCACUUUUGUUUGCCUUAUAUUACAUUUUAGUCACUUAUGUUUGAAAUGUUAUGUUUUAGUCACUUAUAUUAUCGUUUUGCUACGAAGUGGUCACUCUACUGUUCAGCUCCAUUACCUUCCUAACGGUGGUCCUACGUGGUAGUCCAAAUGAGUUUUUGGUUAACAAAAUCCAAAAAUUAACAUUUGUAGCGACGUAAAAAUUUUGGUUUGGGGUCGCUAAUUGUGGCAAUCUAGUGAAAAAGUUUGAAAACUGAAGUUUGAUUUUAAAAUAAAGAGGGAGUCGCCACCGAUCCUUUUCCUAGGUGUGAUCGGACACCUAUUAGAUUCAUUUUUUUUAAAACAAAAGGAAGGCUGAAUUUAGGUCUACGUUAAAAGCCAGAGGAAAAUUAGGGUUCGGGAGUCGGUUACGCGCGAGGAAGGUAUUAGCACCCUCGCGACGCUCAAAAAUUGGUAUCUCAUAAACACAUGUUGUCUUAAUUUUCAAAAAUGCGAAUUCAAUGUAAAGUUUAGUUAUGAUCCGAAAAAAACGAGAAAUUUUAGUUUAUUCCGGUUUUUGAGAAGGGUAUAUCGCUUUAACACGAGUCAAUUGACGUUCACCCAACGUAGCGAUGAACUCGAUGACUUAAUGUUAAAUCGAUAUGUUGCCUUGAUUAUUGAAAUUAAUUAGCAAAACAAGAAUACGAUUUUCGAAAUAAUGCAAAGUAAAAUAAUAUAAAAUAAAAAUCAAUAAAUGAAAGAGCUAGGGAUAUAUUGAAACAAAUAAUCGAGAUGACAAUAAUAUUAGAAAAGAUGAAGGUAUAAUGUAAUAAUAGAAUUGGACACGAAAUUAAAAUAAUGAAUGUAUACACAUAAUAAUAAUAUUAAGAAUGCGUGUGUAAGAUGACAUAUAUAUUUAGCGAUAUUAAAAAUCCAUACAACAUACAUAGAACAUAUAUAGUAUAUGCAUACCUUAGGAAUGAUAAGAAUAAUAAUAAAACUAUUUUGUACACUACACAAAUACAUACACACACAUAUAUAUAUAUAGAUAUAUAAACAAUAGUAUUAGGAAUAUACAAUAUAAUAUUAGAAACAUGUAUAUAAUAGUGUAAAAGAAAAAUAUGACAAAUAAGAUUAAAAUAUAUAUAAUAAUAUAUAAAAUAUAGUGUUAAAAUCUUAUAUACAUAACGUAUGUGCAAAACACAUAAGAUUAAAACAUUUAUAUAAUACAUACAUAUACAACAAAAAUACAUAUAUAAAAUAACAUGAGAAAUAUACGUAGGAAUUUAGUAUACAAAACUAACAAUUAAAUAAAAUCAUAUACAUACACGAAAUAAUGCGUAUAAAAAAUAUAACCAACAAUAUAAGAAUAUGUACAUGAAAUGGUAUAAGUAUAUAUUAUUAACAUUAAAAUACCUACGUAAUAUAUAAAAUAUACGUAAUAUGUAUUAGAGACGAUCAUAAUAAUAUAAUAUAUAAUAAAAAACUGUUCACAUAUUACAUAAGUAUGUACAUAAAUAUAUAUAUAAUAAUGGUACCAGAAAUAUAUCUAUAAUAGCAUAAAAGAUAAUUUUAAAAUAUAUAUAUAUGGGGCAAUAUGCAAACUAUAUACAUAACAUAAUUAUAAAAAUGCAUGGCCUUAAACACACAUAUAACGUAUGCAUAUAUAAUAACAUAAACACAAACAUUAUAAAAAUAAAAUAAGAUAACGAUAAUAUUAAAAUGAAGUAAUCAAAAAACUAUAUAAAGGUUAUAUGUACAUAAAAAUAUAUAUGUAUAUAUAAGUAAAGAUAAACCAUAGUAAUAAAAAUAAUAUAAUAAUAAUAUAAAAAGUGGAUAAAAUAUAAUGAUAUAAAAGUAAAAUAAGAAUAAAGUAAUAGGUAAUUAUAAAUACAAUAUCAUUAAAAAUGAGAAAAGGUAAGAAAAAGGACUAAAAUUAAAAUAAAAUCGAAGUUAUGGGGCCAAUUUAAAAUAAAAACAAAGAAAAUGGACUUAAUUGUAACACGCGUGCAACUUGGAGGGUCAAAAGCGCAAUAAACCCAGGUAUUAAAACGCUGCGCAGCAUGGGGACCAGAAUGAAUUCGGGGCAAAACCAUGGGGCCAAAUUAAAAAUAAAAAAAACCUUGAUUGUAAACUCCCAGAAAAGCAGAAGGGCUAGAAGUGCAAUUAGCCCUUCCAAAGAAAAACACGCGGAUCCUCCCUGGUGCGGGUCGGGUCGACCCGACCCGCUUCCAAAACGACGUCGUUUUUAUUUACUUGGGGGGGACCAAAACGCACCGUUUUGCUUUUUUUUCUCAUUUGUGCAGCUGAAAGGAAAAAAAAAGGAGAUGAGAGAAGAAAGAGAGGAGAAGGGGGGAAAGGGGAGAGCUCCGGCCAGGGGGGGUCACUGGAAGCUCGCCGGCGCUGGCACCGGCCACCGCACGCGGUGGCCGGAAAGGUAAAAAAUUUGAUUUCUUUUUUAUUUUUUUAUAUUUUUAUACUUUUAUAUGUAUAUAUGCAGUAAAAUGGAUUUUAUAGCGAAAAUGAAAUAAUAAUGGAGAAAGAAAUAACCUUUAGUUUUUUCUUAGCUUCCGAUUCUUUGAUUUUGGUAUUCGAUUGACUUGUAUGCUUUGAACGUUGCUAUUGAAUUCAAACGAUUAAUGGACUGCUAUUUUGAUUCUGGACUUUUUGAUGAUCUUUCUUGUUUUUUGAUUUUUAAAACUGCCAACAAAAGAGAAAGAAAGGCCAGCCCCCCUUUACAAUGGGUAGAUUUUCAGUUUUUAUAACCGAUUACAAAUGUUUUUUUUUGUAUUUGUUUUUUGUUAUUUCUCUAUUUGUUUAUCUCUGCUCCGCUUUGCAGGUGCUCGUGGUGUCAGACACAUGGGCGUCGGCCGGCGUGCGUUGGCGUGGCAGCCGAGAAGGUGGAGCGUCAUGGGGGCGAGGGCGCGCAUGCGACGCUGGGGGGCAGACGAGGCUGAGCGGCGCACAUGGGCAUAGGGCUGCUAGGGUUUCUGUCAUUUUUUGAUUUGGGCUAGGGUUUAUUUUUAUUGGCCCGUUGGGUUUGUUUAGUUAUUGGGCUGGUGGUAUUUUGGGUUUGACGGGCUUUAGUGUGAAUGGGUCAUGUUGGGUUUGUGGGUUGUUUGGUUUAGGGCCCAAAAUUGGCCUGUACAACAUUGUUGGAUACUUUUAGAUAUUACUUAACUUAUAAAACAUAUAUUAAUAUUUUAUUUUACAACAAAUACAUCAAUUUUCCUCAAUUUAAAUUCCUCCUCAAAAUAUAAUAAUAAUAAUAAUAAUAAUAAUAAUAGUAAUAAAAUCUUUAUUAUUCUAUGAUUUGUGUUAUACGUGAUUUUUUUUUACUUUUUUUGAAAAUGUUUUAUUUUUUAUAAUAAUUUUUUACUCAUCAUUUUAGUUUUAAGUUUAAAUUUGUAUUAGUUAUUUUUAUUUUAUUUCUAAUUAUUUUAACACAUGUAUUAAUUAAAUUUUUUCCUUAUAUUAUUAUACUAGUAAUCAAAUGAAACAUUAACACUAUAUAUAAUGUAGUCAACGAUAAUUUUAUUCUACUUUCUAUUAGAGUUAAUUUUUUUAAAAUGAUUUUUUAAUAAUAAUACUCCAAAAUUACUAUGUUCAUCGUUAGCUUAACUCAAAUUAUCAUAUCAAGCUCAAAGAUCCGCUUAAUAUUUGAGAAAGUUAUAACAUAAAUAUUAACUUUAAAAAAUGAGGUUGAGAAAUAAAAUUAAUCCCAUUUAAGAUGGUAUAAGAUUACAAUUUUUAAAAUCUAAACUCGAUCUUUUUUCGAGUUUAUAAUAUAAUUUUUUUUCCUUUAUUGUUCUGUAAUUUGUAUUACACGUGAAUUACAUAUUAAAAAAUACAAAGAGUAAGAGCUAUGAAUUUUAUAGCUUUAUAGAAGCAUAAGAACGCGGAAUACCUUAAUGAGGAAAGGGAAAUUUUUCCUAGCAAAACAGCCAACCCACCGGUUCAACAUUUUCCCAAUGAUUCAGCUCCAGAACCUUCUGGAAGCGUUUGCCUUCUACACGCAAACGAUAUCGUUUAGGGAUAUGGGCCUUCCUAAGUCCACUCACCUGAGUGGAAACCUCGUGCUAGCCCUUGUUGUAGUCAACAAACCCGGAUUUAUGUUCCUCAAACGCGAUGUCAUUAUUGUGUUUCUUGCAAAGGAUAAGGGAUUUGGAGGUAGUGGAGUGAGUGGAAAUUGACGAGUUGAGAGAGAAUUUGAUAAGGAGCGAAUGGGAUAGAGUGGUCAUUUAAUUAGAUACGGAGGUUUUGACGGUUGGAAUGUUUGGAAGACCACCGCAGGAGUGGAAUGGUCGUUCAUUGUUUUGCGUUUCGUUGUGUUUUUAUACACUAAAAUAAUGGACUAACCCCUCCUACUACUCCUUCCUAAAUUGUAAGCUAUCGUUAUCGUUGUUUUUUUCCCUAAUAUUUUUCUCUUUAGUUUCACUGUAUGAUUGAUCUCUCUUUCUAUUUCAAUGAAUCCAUCACAUCUAUUGUUGUUCUUUUAUUCCUCAACGAUUUUUUCCUUUGGAUAUACCCCAUUUUUGUAAAAUGGGUUUUCUUCCGGACAGAAUAUAUUUAAGGGGAAAAUUAUCCAUUUAUGCCAUUUAAAAAAUAAAAAAAUCUUGGUAUAUUUUUAUUUUGUUUAUAUCAUUAUUAGUUUUUUGAGUUCAAUAUAUAAUAUUUUGAGUGUGCUUAUAUUAAUAUAAAUAGGACAAAGACUAUAUAAUUCAGAUACAUAUACACAACUUAAGUGUCAGAGCACCACGCAUUAUAGAGUGGUACUUAAAUGAUGUAAGAUUCUUGCAUGCGUCUCAGAUACAUAUACAUAUAUUAUAAUUUGACCGUUUUGUUCCUCCAAGGUAGAGCUACAACUCAGUUUGUUGUUAUCUAUUGAAUCUUUGUCCCUUUUUUUCUUCUCUCUUUUUCUUUUUUUCUCUUAACUCUAGUCACUGUCAUUCAUGGCCUUCUCUGGCCAAUCGUCAUUUCCAAAUGGCUCCUCUUUUGCUCUUCUCAAGUCUCACUUCAGAUUUCCCAAUAAGCCUUCAAAAUAUCAAUAUUAAAAACUUAAACCUUCGAACAAGGCUUCAACAGAUCUUCGUCGUCCACCGUCUGAUCACCACCAUAUUCCGGCCACAGCUUUUCUUCGACCAACCAUGACUCUUAACCACUCCAAUCAUCGACCUGGCUUGAGCUCUCCAACCCACAAAACCCAAAUUGGGUGUGGGUUUCUUCUCUUUUGAUUCUCUUCUUUUUUAGUUUUUUUUUUUUACUUCCCUCUUUUGAUGCAAGCCAAUUUGGGAUUCUUGCUCUUUUUUUGCUGGUUUAAUUUUGGAUGCUUGCUAUUUGGUAUUUUUGUUUUUGCUGAUUUUUGUUGUUUUGUCGUCGAUUUUGGUUUGAAGCUUCAUAUCAUCGCACAAGCAGAAGCUCCAACUAAACCGAUGCCGAUGAAUGAGUUGUGACGGGAUCUCCUUGACGUUAGCCCAGUCAACCGUUUCGAUGCCAGACUCACCAUUUUCGUCGUCGAUUUUUAAUUUUCACUACUAUGGAAAAAAAUCAUGCCUCACGAUAGUUACGAGCUUUUCUAGGUUUCGUCAGCCAAAACUUUUUCCCCAAAUUUUUUUCCAUUCUGGGCCUAAUUUUAGGUAAAUUCCAUUUCAAUCUGCCACAUUAGCUAAUUGCGUUAAUUGGGUUUCCAAUGUGGCAAGUUAAUUGUCCACAUCAGCGAUCCCAUUAAGACAAUAAUAGAAAAUGUUAAUAAACGACUAAUUUGUUAAUUUUUUAUAACAUUAAUGACUAUUUUGUUAUUUUUCUAAAGUUGAGUGACUGAAAUAAAAUAUAUAUAACUGUUUGGUCAACUACCCCAAAGUUAGUGACUAUUGGUGUAAUUUACCCAAAAUAGAAUUUAUUGCGUCUUUAUUUCAUUUUUAAUAAUUUACAAUAUUAAAAUGAUAAAAUAUAUAAUUUUAUAUUAUUAUCUAUUUAUUUUUAUAAUUAAAUUUAAAUAAAUUUAUUUUAAAAAAUAUUUAAUUGAAAUUCAGGUUAGGCCGGGUUGAAAACAAAAAUAAAUUCAUUAAUUCACACAGGAAAGGAUCGUGGUUGUGGGAAUAUACUAGAAAUAUGAGAUGUUGCUCGCUGCUUGAAGCUGAAUUGUGGCUCAUUUUGGACGGUUUGAAUCUUCUUUGGAUCCAAGGCUUUAGGCGUGUGGAGAUUGAGAGCGACAGUGCUGCUGCUGUCCGCAUCAUAUUGGAUGAGUCUGCUGCUAAGCAGAGUAGAUCGCACAAUUCGAGUUCUUUAGAAUCGGCAAAGGAAGGUCAAGAUACAUCACAUUGUCCGGGAAGCCAAUGCGUUUGGCCUAAGCAGGCUGCUGAAUCCACCACCUGCUGCACUGAGGAGCAUUCUUUGCAAGGACAGUACAGGGACUGUUGGGGAUAGGCUGAAAUCACUACCCUCCUUUAUAUAAACAUUCAACCCUUUAUUACUCAACACACCUAGAUCAAUACCAUUAAGUCACCUUAAUAUUUAUUUCAAUUCCUUUUAUUCUCAACUCAUGUUUAGUUGUUCAUACAAAUGCCCCUGCUUUAAAAUUCACAAGCAAUAUUGGUUUUCCCCUAAUUUCUUAACAUCACCACCAAAAAGAUCAAGAAGUUGCUAAGAUCAAGAUCAACAAGCUACACAAGUCAGAACAAAAUCAACAAUAUUGAAAAUAGACACUAAACCUCACUCUAGUUUCCACAAUCUUUUAUCACUCUGCAAUGGUUAUGUACAACUGAUUCACAUUGCAAGUGAUGAUCUUUCCACAAUUUGUGAAAUAUUUCACAGCAAGAUUGAUUUAUUAGAGUGUAUGAUAAGAUCCAUAAACAAGGUGGCAGUGAUUAUAUCUGCAGAAAAGCCCUUACCAACCAUUUCCGUAAGAAGUUGCGUUGCCUUUGAGGUGUAGCUGUUGCAAAGGAACCUCCGAAUCAUUACAUUAUAACAGCAGCUAUCAGGCAAACAGUCAUUAUCUCCCAUGCUCCCAAACAACCUGUAUGCUUCAUCUGGCAAUCCCUCUUUACACAAUCCAUUAAUCAUUAUACAAUAUGUGUAAACAUCCGGUUUUAAACCAUUGUCUGAGAGUUGAUGAAAUAAUUCCUUGGCAAAUUCGAUAUGCCCUGCUUUGCACAACCCAUCAAUUAGGAUAGUAUACAGGACAAUAUCAAGUUCCAACCCACUGUUUCGCAUUGCUUGAAAAAGUUUCAAUGCCUCCUCAAUAUCACCUGUUUUGCCUAAACCAUUCAUCAAAAUCGAACAAGUCACUAAAUCUGGAACUUGUCCAGAAGCAAGCAUCUUUCUAAACAGUUCACAUGCAGUUGAAACUCUCCCUAACUGAAACAUACUUUGCAAGAGAGUGCUAUAUGUGACAGUAUCCGGGAUUGGUCCCUUUAGAGAUAUUUCAUGAAAGAGUUCCAUUGCUUCGUCUAACCUUUUACCUUUGCAAUAUCCAUUGAUCAUGGUGCUGUAAGUAACUAUAUCAGGCUCACAACCCUUCUCAAUCAUCAAGUUGAAAACUUUUCUAGCUUUAUCCAUUUUGUUCUGCAAGCAAUGACCAUUAACUAAUGUAUUAUAGGUAACAACAUUAGGCUCAAUGCCUCUCUUUAUCAUUGUGUCAAUGAUAUCCUCGGCUUCAAAAACCAUCCCUUCCUUGCAAUGUGCAUCAACCAAUGUAUUAUACGUGACAACAUUGGGCUCAAUAUCUUGCUUUCUCAUCAUAUCAAUGGUCUCUACAGCUUUAGAAAUCAUUCCUUCCUUGCAAAGUGCAUCAAUCAAUAUAUUAUAAGUGUCAAUAUUAAUUGAAAUAUUGUUAUCAACCAUUUCAUUCAAAAGCUUUGUUGCCUCCUCCUGCUGGCCCAAAUUACACAUACCAUGAAUUAAGCAGUUAUAAGUAAUGAUAUUUGGUCUAAUGCCUUUAACCUUCACUUCAGAGAAGAGAUCAAGAGCCUCCUUUAACAACCCGUUCUUACAAAGACAGUCAAUGACAGUGCUAUAUGCUACAAUAUUGGGUUCAUAACCUCUGCCUUCCAUCAACCUUAGAAACCUAACAGCUCUAUCAGUAUUGCCAGUCUCAGACAACCCCUUAAGUACUGUACUGUAAACAAUCAAAUUAGGUUGAUACCCUUUUUCAGUCAUUUCAUCGAACAUACAAAAGGCCUCAGAAAUCUUACUUUGAUUACAAAGCCCAUUUAUCAAAGUUUGAAAAAGUUACAGCACUAGGCUCAACACCUAACUUCAUCAUUUUCCCCAAAACAGAAAACCCAAAAUCAAUUCGACCUAAUUGACAAAAGCAAUUAAUCAAGAUGUUCAUAGAAUAAACAUUAUGGGAAGCUCCCAAUAAUUCGAUCUGUCUAUACUUAGAAACAACAAUGGCAUAAUGUUUCGUCUUAACAAUGGCUCCUAAUAAUUUAUUGAAUUCCACAAUUGAAGGCUUUGGGUACUUUUCAAUCAAAUUAUUGAACAAAAUCAAAGCAUGAUCAACAAUAUCGAAGCGGUGGUCUCUUUUUCCCUUUCCUCUAACAGGCAUGGACAUGAGUUUCUUACUUAGGCAUUCGAUGUGGGUAGCAAUGGUGUUAGAAGAAGAAGAAAAAGAGUGGAAAUUAGAAAGAUGGCUUCCAGCAUUAGCAACGGAACGAAGAAUAAAAGAAGAAGGAAGCUUACCCAUAUCUUGAAAGCAGAAAUGGCAGCGGCAGUAGCAGAAGAAGUGUAAAUUUUGGGUUGCGAAGUGGUGUUUAGGGAAAGGGUUGGGAGCGUAAUUUGGGUUUUUUAUUUUAUUUUUUUAAUGUGAAUAAUAUUUAAUAAAAAAAAUUAAACUUUAUUUUGAAAUGCAAUCUUCAAUUAUUAUAUACUUAUAAAUCUUCCUUUUAAAUUUAAUAAAAUUACUAUUUACUUUAAUAAGAUUUAUUAAAUUUAAAUUUAAAUUUUUAGACUAACUUGAAAAAAUAUACUAAGAUUACAAUACAAUUAAAACUUAAAUCUAUAAAAUACUCUAUUUUUAUAAUUUAUAUUUUGUCGAUGCAUCUAUGAGCGAGCAAAACUUGAUUUCGAGUUAAUCAAAUCGAGUUAUUCAAUUUUUUCGAGUCAACUAGAAUAAGUAAUUCGAGUUUAAGUCGAUUUGAAUUUUACAAUUCAAAUAAGUUUGUAGCGACCUAAAAACUUGGCGCGGGCGCUAAUCGAAUUGAUUGUUGAAAAUUUAAAAAUAGUAUCUCGAUUUUAUUUGAAAAGGGAGUUGCCACCGAUCUUUUUUUCUAGAUGUAAUCGGACACCUAUUAAAUUCUCUUUUUAAAAGAUAAAUUCUUUUUAAAAUUCUUUAAAAGAGUCAAUUUUAGGUUCACGUUAAAAAAAUCAGAGAAAAUUAGGGUUCGGGAGUCGGUUACACGCGAGGAAGGUAUUAGCACCCUCGCGACGCCCAAAAUUGGUAUCUCGUUAAUCGCGCAUUGUCAUAAUUUUCAAAAAUACAAGUUAAAUUUAAUAUUUAAUCGUGAUCUGAUUGAAACAUGAAUUUUUUUAAAACACGAGAAUUUUGAAGCACAAAAAUUUUUGAAACACGAAAAUUUUUUAAAAUACAGAAAUUUGUGAAACACGAGAAUUUUUUGAAAACAUGAAAAUUUGAAACACGAGAAAUUUUUUUGAAACACAAGAAUUUUUGAAAACAUGAAAAUUUUUGAAACACGAUUCUUUUUUUAAAAACGUACCGUAUUUAACAUGAAUCGAGGAUAUUCACCUAAUAUAGCGAUGAAGUCGACGAUUAGUGUCAAACCGAUUCAAUUUAAUAUUUAAUCGUGAUCCUAUUAAAACACGAGAAAUUUUUAAUAAAAAAAACACAAGAAUUUUUGAAUAUUUUCGAUUUUUAAAAGGGCGUAUCGUGUUUAACACAAACCGGUGAUAUUCACCCAACAUAGCGAUGAAAUCAACGAUUUAAUGUUAAAUCGAUUCGUUGUCUUAUUUAUUGAAAUUAAUUAAAUUAAAAUUAAAUUAAAUUAAAAAUAUAAAUACAAAAAUAUAAAAAUGCAUAAAAGUACCAAUAAUAUUUAAAACGGAAUAGCAUAAAAAUAUAUGCAUCAAAUUAAAAAUGAAAUAAACAAAAUUACCGAAAAUGUUCAAAAAUAUGAGCUUAGUCGAACGGAUUACGCAAAUUGAACCCUUUUUACUCCUUUUUCCCCUUUUUCUUUUCUUUUUUUUUCUUCUUCUUUUUUCCUUUUUUUUUUCUGCAGGGUUGGGCUUUGGUGGGCUGGCCUGCUCGCUGCUUGCAGGGCUGCUGCUGGUGCUGGGCUGCUGCAACCGGGCCUGCUUCACUGCUAUUGGGCUGCACUGGUCUGGGCUUGGGACUGCUGGAGCUGGCCUGCUGGACAGGCUGGGGAGUUAGGCUGUGGCCAGCUGUUGGGCCUGCUUUGUUUUUUUUUGCUGCAGGCCUGCUGUUUUGGGGCCGCUGGAGCGCGGGUCGGGUCGGGGGUUGGUGGGUCGGGUCAAAGUUUCGGGCCGGGUCGGGUCAACCGCCUUUUCUAUUUUUUCUUUUUCUUUCCCUUUUCUUUCUUUUUUUCUUUCUUUUUUCUUCUUUCUUUCUUCUCUUCUUCUUCUUUCCCUUCGACCUUGCUCUUCCUCGCCAUCGCCGCUUCCUCCGCCUGGUGCGACGAUCGCCGGUGUCUCCUCUUCUCUUCUUCUUUCUUCUUCUCUUCUUUUCCCUCUUCUUUUUAUGGUUUUGAUUUCUGUUUUUAUUUCCUUUUUUUUUUGCUUGUUGCUUUGCUUGUUUGAGUUGUAGGUGUUGACGACGGUGGUGUUGCGGCGGUGGGCACAGUGGCGCUGGUGCGACGGCAGUGGGCCGCUGCUGUUUUGAUUUUUUUUUAUUUUUUUUGCUUCUAUUUAUUUAUUUUUUGGUUGCUAUCCCUCCCCUGCUCUCUUUCAUUUUUUCUUCUUUUAAUCUUACCAAAUUUGUCUUUUUUUCUUUGUCUUCAGGUAGCAGGUAGGGGUGUGCAAAAUUCGGGUAAAACCAAAAAAAUUCGGUUAACCGACCAAAUUUGGUUAAUCGGUCGGUUAACCGAAUUUUUUCGGUCGAGAGUCGGUUAAUUAUUUUUUGAUUUUACGGUUAACGGUUAAUUCGGUUCGAAACCGGUUGGUUAACCGAAUUUUUUCGGUUAACUGAAAAAAUUAAUAAGUAAAAUUAUAAUAUAUAAAUAGGCCCACUAUUCACCUAAACCCAAUCCAAACCCAAGUAUUCAAUCCAACCCAAUUACCCAACUCAAUUACCCAACCCAACCCAAUCAUAAAAAUUACAAAUAAUUUAAUAAAUUAAAAUAAAAUUCUAAAACUAAAACUAAAGUAUAAAAGUCCAAAAAUAAUUUAAUUAUGUUUGAUUCAAUUAGGUUAAUUCGGGUAAUUCGGGUAAUUCGGGUAAUUCGGUUAAGUCGGGUAAUUCGGUUAAUUUGGUUAAUUCGGUUAAUUUUUAACCAAAAAUAAAAAAACAUAUAAUUUUCGGUUAAUUCGGUUAACCGACCGAAUUAACCGAAAAAAUUUCAGUUCGGUUAAUUUUUUUGAAAAAACUUUCGGUUCGGUUAACGAUUAAAAAUUUUGAAAGGUCGGUUAAUUCGGUUAAUGCUAUUUCGGGUCGGUUAACUGGUCAGUUAACCGAAUGAACACCCCUAGUAGCGGGUAGCUAGGGAAGAGGGAGGCCAUGCACUAGGCCGACGGCCAAAAAUUGCGGAGGGCAGGUGCGCAAAUCGCGCCUGUCUGCCAGAGGGACCAGAUUGAAAAUACAGCAAAACAUUUGGGGCUAAAGUGUAAAUUUUGGAAAAUUUGGGUCAAAAUGUAAUUUUAGGAAAGUUAAGGGUUAAAAUGUAAUUUUAAGAAAGUUUAGGGGUCAAAAUGAAAUUUAAAAAAAUUAGGGGUCAAAAUGAAAAUUUCUUAAAAACACGAAAUUUGUCCCGGACAAAAUUCAGUGAUUAGAAAGUUAAAUAAUUCAAAUAACAUACUGGUGUAAAUAACCUUUUGGUCCCUAUCAAUUUUGAAAAUAAGCAAAUUAGUCUCUCUAUCAACAAAAACUACAAAUAAAAUUAAAAAUAAAAAUAAAAAUAAUAUUUAAAUAUUUAUAAAUUUAUAAAUUUUCAAAUUUUAUAUUUUUAAAAAAUUUUAAAAUUUUAAAAAAAAUCUAAAGAAUAUAUAAAGAAAAUUUAAAAUUUUCUAACAUAAAUUUUAUGGGACCUAAAUUUAACGUUUAUUAUACUAAAGUGUUUUUUAUUUUGCUUUGAUAAAGCUUUCAAAUAUAUAUAUAUUUUUUCUCAUGCACCUUCUCAUUAUUAUACUUCUCACAGUACAACAUAUGUAUUUUCUUAUUAACACACUUCUUUUUUUAAUCGACCAACUAUGGAUCAUUUUAUAUGUAUAUCACAAUUAUAACAUUACAUAAUAUAAAUAUUAUAAAAAAUUAUAAAAUAAAUAUAUAAAGAGAUGAAGUAAUUAAAAUAAAACUGUAAACCAAUGUUUCCAUGGUUAUAUUUCUAGAAAAAUAAAUGAAAAAAAAUAAAAUUAUAUAAUUUUUUGCCGUAAGGCAUUCCUUGGAUCUUCAAUUGUCGUCACUCCAUCUUCUCAUUGUCAUGACUCUUUCUUAAUAAAGUAACUAAAAAUAACCUAAACAAACAAUUCAAAAUGAUCUAAAUCUAAUGUCAAACUCAACUAAAAAAAACCCAAAAUGAUCCGAUCUGAAAUGGAAAUAUUCGAAAUAACUCAAACCCGAUGGAAUUUUGAAAUCACAAACCUGAAACUAAUGUAAUUUUAUUUUGAAAUUUAGUUUAAUGUAAUCUAUGAUUCGAAGGGUUAUGAUAUGUUUUUAAUUAGUACCUUAAUUAAUUUUUAAUUAUUUUACAAGUAUUUUUUUGCAUUUAAGCAUGAGUUAAUGUUACAAACCAAAUAACGCUAACUCAAUUUCAUAAAGAAAAAAUAAAGCUACUUCAAUUGAAAAUUGAUUAAAAAUUAAAUAAAUUUAAUUAAUAAAUAUAAUAAUAUUUACUAACAAUUUAUUUUAAAAUAUUACUACCUGUCUAAGUCCCAAAGGCCCGUUCAAAAUUUGGAUAAAAAUAUUAGGCUUGAAAAUAUUUAAAAUAUAUUUUAAUUAUUUUUUAAAAAUAUUUAAUUAUUUUUGGAAGUUUCUGAAUAAUAUAUUUUAAUUAAUUUUUAGUUAUUUUAAAAAUUAAAUUCUUCAUUAUUGAAAUUUCAUUUAAUUUUUAAUAUAAAUAAUAUUCUUAAAAAUAUUUAAUUAUGCUUUAACGUAAAUAUAAUUUAUAAAUAAAUAAAAAAACCACUUCACAAACUAAUUAGCCAGAUAAAAAAUGUUGUUUUGGUUAACAAAAUCCAAAAAUUAACAUUGUUGGAUACUUUUAGAUAUUACUUAACUUAUAAAACAUAUAUUAAUACAAAUACAUCAAUUUUCCUCAAUUUAAAUUCCUCCUCAAAAUAUAAUUAAAAAAAACCUUUAUUAUUCUGUGAUUUGUGUUAUACGUGAUUUUUUUUUUACUUUUUUUUGAAAAUAUUUUAUUUUUUAUAAUAUUUUUUACUCAUCAUUUUAAUUUCAAAUUUAAAUUUGUAUUAAUUAUUUUUUAUUUUAUGUCUAAUUAUUUUAACACAUGUAUUGAAACAUUAACACUAUAUAUAAUGUAGUCAGCGAUAAUUUUAUUCUACUUUUUAUUAUAGUUAAUUUUCUUUUUUAAAAAUGAUAUUUUUAAUAAUUAUACUCCAAAAUUGCUAUGUUCAUAGGUCGCUUAACUCAAAUUAUCAUAUCAAGCUCAAAGAUUUGCUUAAUAUUUGAGAAAGUUUUAACAUAAGUACUAACUUUAAAAAAUGAGGUUGAGAAAUAAAAUUAAUCUCAUUUAAGAUAGUAUAAUAUUACAAUUUUUAAAAUCUAAACUCGAUCAUUUUUCGAGUUUAUAAUAUAAUUUUUUUCCUUUAUUGUUCUGUAAUUUGUAUUAUACGUGAAUUACAUAUUAAAAAAUGCAAAGAGUAACAGCUAUGUAUUUUAUAGCUUUAUAGAAGCAUAAGAACGCAGCAUACCUUAAUGAGGAAGGGGAAAUUUUUCCUAGCAAAACGGCCAACCCACUGGUUCAAUACCGGUUCGACAUUUUCCCAAUGAUUCAGCUCCAGAACUUUCUAGAAGUGGUCACUUUCUACUCGUAAACGAUACCGUUUAAGGAUAUGAGCCUUCCUAAGUCCAUUCACCUGAGUGGAAACCUUGUGCUAACCCUUGUUGUAGUCGACAAACCCAAAUUUAUGUUCCUCAAACGCGAUGUCGUUAUUGCGUUUAUUACAAAGGAUAAGGGAUUUGGAGGUAAUGGAGUGAAUGAAAAUUGGUGAGUUGAAAGAAAACUUGAUAGGGAGCGGAUGGGAUAAAGUGCUCAUUUAAUUAGAUAUAGAGGUUUUGACGCUUAGAAUGUUUGGAAGACCACCGUCAUUCAUUGUUUUGUGUUUCUGUAACACCCCUUACACGUAUCCAACACCGAAAUAGAGUACGAGGUAUUAUUAGAACACAUACACUUAUAAACGUAUUUAACCGAGUUAUAAAAUUUCAUCUAAAUUAAAACUUUCAAAAUUAUUAACAUGCCUUUAUAACCAUUCAUAAUAUAUCCUCAAAAUAUUAUAAUCAUAAUAAAUUGGAUCUACGAGACCUGAUAAAUAUUCAUGCAAUUCACAAGUCUUAAUAAUUCAAUGCUUCAUUUCCAUUUCAUUCAAUUCACAAAUUUCUCAUGUUCACAAUUCAAAUCAUUAAGUUCAAUACUAAUACGUAUUUAUCAUUUAACUCAACGUUUAAUUGAUUAUACCAUUCAUUAACACAUUUAUGAAGUUCUCAAUUUUUGCAAUGAAAAUAUCAUUUUAGCUUAUAUAACAACAUCAAUUCAACUCAUCAUCCCGGUAUAAAUUCACUACCACUUAUCCAUUUACUAUAAUUCUUUUGGGACCAUUUGUCAGUUACCAUCCUUAAUCAAAUUAGGGAACGGUUACGGAAAAUUGAGUACUUCACUUCCACUUUGCCAUAGUAUUACUAUGGUCUUGCGUAUGAUCACUUAUCACUUUCCGAAGCCGUAGCCCUGCCACGGUCUUACACAGAUCGUAUUUAUCACUUAUCACUUGUCCCUGAUCAGAUAAGUGUAGCUAAAGCUAGUACUUAUCACUUGUCCCUGAUCAGAUAAGUGUAACUAAAGCUAUCACUUAUCACUUGCCGCUUGUCACUGAUCAGAUAAGUGUAGCUAAAGCUACUACUUAUCACUUGUCACUGAUCAGAAGUACUCAAAUCCGGCGUUCCGCUCAAUUUGAUCAUUUAUUCGGUUUUCACAUUUUUAUUUUAUUUUCAUUUCAUCAACAAAUAUAUAUCAUCAUAUACUAUAUAAUUCAUUAAAUUGACAUUUAAUCAUUAAAAUUUUAGUCAUAUGAACUUACCAGACUAAUUUGCAAAAAUACCAAGAUACAAGAACAUUUUAGUAAUUUUUCAUUUUUCUCGAUUUUCUACCCAAUCUUGAUCUAAAUUAAUUUUUUAUUUAAUAAAACAACUCAUUUCAUGCAAUUUGGUCAUUUUUGAUAUUUUUCCAAAAUUACCCUUAAAGUUUUACUUUUAUUUAGUUUAGUCCCUGAGCCCAAAUCAUGCAAAUUAACCAUUUAUAAUGCAAACCCAUGCUAGCAAAAUAUUCAUAUAUUUAUUUCCCUCCCCCUCCUCUCCAUUCCACAUCCUUAAUGUGUAUAACACACUUAAACAACAUUAACUAUAAUUUCACUAUUCACUCACAUGAAUAUUCAAAACUGUUUAUCCGAGUUAGAGUCACUAAAUUAUUUUUAUCUGGAGCUACAAAGCUCCAAAUUAAGAUCCAUUAAUUUUAACUGAAACUAGACUCACAUAUCUUUUUACUAUAAAAUUUUCAGAAUUUUUGGUUCAGCCAAAUAGUACAAUUUAUUCUUUAAAGUUUUCCCUAUUUCGCUGUCUGACAGUUUCGACCACUCUUCACUAAAAAUGAAUUAUCUAAUUGCACAGAAUUCAGAUGAUGUAAAAUUUUGUUAAUAUCAUUAUUAGUUUUUUGAGAUAAAUAUAUAAUAUUUUGAGUGUGCUUGUAUUAAUAUAAAUAGGACAAAGACUAUAUAAUUCAAAUAUAUAUACAUAAUUUAAGUGUCAGAGCACCACAUAUUUUGAGUGGUACUUAAAUGAUGUAAAAUUCUUGCAUGCAUCUCAUAUGUUUCGUGGAUGUGAAUUGGAGCUUCCAUUUAUCAAUGCUUUGGUAGAGAAAAAGAUAUGAAACUCGGACAUUCCAUCUACUGUGAGAUGAGUGCACCAUUACACUCAAAGGUGUGGUAUUACAACUCGAUUUAUCAAUAGAUGAAUCAAUCACUACAAGUCUAGUGAACCCAAAGAAUUGAAGGCUAAUUUGCAAAUAGCUACCGCCCAAAGUGGCAGAUAAAUUUAGUAGUAAUCAAACAUAUAUAGCUAGAAAAUAAUUUUUACAUAUCUUAUUCCAAUAAUUAAACCAAAAAUUAUAUAAAAACUAAACUAAAUUAUUUUUACAUAUUUUAUUUCGAUAAAUUUUUAGAACCCAUUCCUAAAACAUAAUUUUCUAAACAAAGUUAUAACAUAGAAUAAUAGAACCUUUAGAUUGAAAAAGGAAAUUUGUCUUAUCUAUUAGUUUUUGUUUUUAGUAAGCCUUUACUUGGUUUAAUGAAGAAACAUGUAAUAGUCUCUUUUAAGUUUAAAACCAUACUAUAAAAGGUGAAAUAAAUAAUAAAACUAUAUUUUCUCCUUAAAUAAAAUAAAAUAACAAUAAAGUAAUGUUUAUCAUGGCAGAAAUAACUUCAGCUUACCUACUUUUUCUUUUAUUUUAUCUGCAUAUUCAACCCCACAUCUUUUCUGUGAAAAGGAGACAAUAUCAACAAACAUCCCUUUCGAAGGUUGAAUUCCGGAAUCCUCCAUCCACUGAAGAACCUGCACAGAGAUUUGUCGAGGAGAUUUGAGUCUUAUAACGCAUUUUGUACCAUAAUGCCAUUGCAGAAAAGUAAGAUGUUUGAGGACCUGCGUCUCCUAAUUCAAAGGCCAUUCAGAUUUCAAACAUUUAGCCAUCAUGCCAGAUGUUAAAACUAGAAAAACAGAUGAAUCCAACACCAUUGACAUCAUUUAUCUAAGAAACUCUAUGGAGUGUGGAUUGAAGAUAGACGCUAAAAUGGUUAACAGAUAAUACAGAGUAUAACCUCGAUAUAUUUCCGCCAAUUUUCAGCUGCCAACAGAUUUUUCAACAAGAUUGAGUAGGUGUUGAAACUGGCUGGAACACCUGAUGCUAUUAUCUUGUAAAACAGCUGCAUGUUUUCCAAAGAAAAAAAAAAGGAAGUGGAGAAUAAUAAUAAUCAAACAUAGAACAAACCUUUAACCUUAGUGGUAAGAUAGAACUUGAGAACUUUGGAGUUUUUCAAAGACAGAGCAACAGCAAGGACUUCAAUUGCAUUUAUAAACAUUAAGGAAAUCAAGUACCUUCAUCAUGGAUUCAAUCUUUCCACUCUUCCCAAGCAGAUGAAGAAGCUGAUUCAAAAGCCCAAUGGAAACCAAAGGGAACCAAGGCUCCAUUAGUUUGAUCAGGUCAAUUGUAGUCUUCGAAUCUUGUAAACUUCAUUUGAAUCCCCCAAUGUUAGUUUCUAGUAAGCAGAUAAAGCAUACUAAAUGUUCAAUGAAAAAAGGAUCUAUUUUGUCAUGUAGGAUAUAUCGUGAAAUAGUGUGCAGGCAAGCAAUGUUGGAUGUGGCCCCAACAAAAUUAAUUUCUUCUAUACAUGUUCUUCCUUUAAAAAUGCAAAAAGGAUACAAUUGGGUGUCAAUAGAAUUGGUUAAAUUAGAUUCAUUAUCCUCAAAUUCUGCAACUCUUUCAAAAGUUAAUUUUCCUCUGCUAUAAGAGUAAAAUGGAAAGAUCUGCAUCAGGUAUCAAGCACUCUAAAAAAUAAUAAACAAUAAGCAAUAUUUUUGACAAAAGGGGAAAAAGCUAAUGAAACAUGAUUUCUUUUCAGAAAAUAAAGACAUGAAACUUACAUGCUACAAGCUGAUACCAUUUCAAAGAAAACAGCAUCAUUUAAAGGAAUUGCUUUCUCUCUCAUAUACUUUGCCAAAACAAGAACUUUGGACGGUUGUCCUCCCUUGUUAAAAGCUCGCAGUAGAGCAGAACAUGCUAUAGAGUCUGGUUGGAUACCAUUUUCUUCCAUCUCUAGGAAGAUUGCAGAAGCUUUUGCCCAAUUUUCUGUAGUUAAUAAGCACCAAGUUUUUAGUUCCCAAAGAAGUAGUUUUUCCAGCUAAAGAAGACAUACUUACAAACAAAUUGAACAUAUUAGCAUGAGAAAUAGCCAGUUCUGAUGCAGCUUUAAAUAAAUGUCCAAGACAAAGUGGAAAAUGUUCUUUAGGCAAGUUCAACCAAUAAAUAACAAAGAACUAAGCUCACACCGUACCAUGAAAUUAAUCAAUAAACUUCCAGGUAUAGAAUAAAAAAACAGUUUAAGAAAAGAUCAGCUAUGAUAAUAAAAUUUCUUCGACAAAAAGAUCACUUCCUCCUAUAGCUUGUACAUGUAUCCAGAAUUGGUCUCCACAGUUAGUUAGUUACUUCAAAAGUGUAUCGUGCAACUUACCUGCAGAAUUAUAAGCAUGCAGCAUUGCAGUAUAUGCAACAACAUCAGGACAACAACCAGAAACCUUCAUCAUGUUGAACAUUGAUUCAGCCUCAGCAACUUGGCCCUGAAAUGGGUGUUAAAAGGAAGAAUAAAAUAAAUAAGAAAACAUUUCCCUCAAGUUGUAUAUCAGCAAUUAAGAAGCACACCGUGCAGAAGCACCUGCCUGUUUACUGUAGACACAAAUAACAGAUGAGUACACCUCCUUCGUUAAGGGAAUUUUUAAACCAACCAUGUCAUCAAGAAACCCAAGUGCCUCACUAUAUCUGGACAGUUUAUAGGAACCACUUAUUAAUAUUGUAUAAGUAACAGAAUCUGCUAAGACUUUCCUUUUCCUCAUGGAUUUGUACAAAGCUAUCGCCUUCUCAAACUCUCCGACAUUCAUAUAGCUUCCAAUUGCUGAAUUGUAGGCAACUGUAUUCAGUUUGAUACAUCGCAGCUCAGCUGCUGACAGUACAGCAUCAAUAUUCACUUUCUGCCGACAGCGCCCACAGGCAGCUAAAAGGGUGCAAAUUGAGACGAUGUUUGGCUUAAUCCCAUCUUGCUCCAUUUGACGCAAGACUUCUACAGCCUCAGCUAAUAAACCAUUGGAUCCAUAGGCAUCAAUCAAUGCAUUAUAACUUACAAGAUUUGGCUUAACAUUGUUUCUCUUCAUCAUAUCAAAAAUUUCUCUAGCUUUUUCAGGUAGCUGCGAUCUUCUAUAAGCAUUAAGUAAAGAAGUAUAAGAAACAACAUCUGGACGAAAUCCAUUUUGUUUUAUCUGGUCAAAAACAGCAACUGCCUCUUUACUCAUUCCAUGUGAAGCAUAUGCAGCCAUUAGUGUGUUAUAUGAAACAAUAUUGGGUUGUAUACCUUCUGCAAGCAUUGCAUUGAACACAGCCUUACAGUUUUCUAUCUGUCCGCAAACAGAAUAUAGGUGUAUGAUGCUAGUGAAUGUAACGAUGUCAGGUCGGGAAUCUGCUCUCUCAUCUCUCAUGGAAUUAAAUAUAUCCAUAGCUUUUCCAUAUUGUCCGAGCUUCACUAGGCAAUUUAUCACAAUAUUGAGUGUAGUUGUAUCAGGACGAAUAUGUGUCCCUUUCAUCAAUUCAAAAUAAGAUAAAGCUUUUGAAUACUGGGCCCCACUCUUAUAUGCUGACAAUACAAUGUUAUGUGUCACCAGAUCUGGUCCAACUCCAUUUUCCGUCAUUUUCUUGCAAACCUUCAGAGCUUCUCUCCAGUUUCCACUAGAUCCACAAGCGUUUAUCAAGUUGUUAUAAGUUGAUCGACUUGGAGGGAUCUGCCCAUAUACAUUAAGGUUACAAACAUCUAUUGUUGAAAAGACAUAAAAUUUCUGAAGAGAUGGAAAAAGAAAUUAGGGAAAGAACAGUAGCUUAAUAGAAAAAGCUAGGUUGAUUUAUUUUUUAUAAAACAAGAAAACAUCAAAGCAUUGAUGCUAUCUAUCUAUAUAAAAAAAAAUAUGUGCUAACUUCACUGUUAUGUUAUCAUGUACACUGCAUGCAUGAAAGUUUUAUUUGGUUUCUUCCUCUAUCUAUUUUCCUCCAAAUAUUUAUCAGAGAACUGGAAAAGAAAGAAGCACCCUUUAUGCCACAUCAAUUUUGAUUGCUUAGUCUAGUUUGAAGGGGAAACCCCGACAAAACUCUUAAAUCCCAUUUAAACUUCCAUAAUUCUAAAUCAUAUAAUUUAUCUCACUAUGUGCAACUCUGAAUGAAUUUACAAACUUAAAAGUGGGACUUGAAGCAUGUGACCAAUAAAAAUCAUGCAAAGCAAUCUGCUCAAUCAACCAGGGGAAGAUUAUAUGAAUAGUACAGCCUGCAGACACCAAAUUUGUAUCAACCAUAACAAUAAUUAUAGUGACAACUAGAUAAUAAUAGAAGCACUUUGUGGGUGUUGUUUGACCUUAACAAUAAUAACAGUGACCAUUGCAAGAAAAUGAACGCACCAUGUAGUAUUGUGAACAUUUAUUUUAUAUGCAGUAUGAUUUCAAUGUGAAAAUAACAAAAAGAAGCUCACUCAAGUUAUACCCACAAAGAGUCAUUAGGGAUCAAAAAUACAAAUACACACAGCUGCACUGAGCAUGUCUUCCAUGAUAUUCAUAGCCCAACGCCAUUGCCCAACUUGACCAUGUGCAUGGAUAAGAGCAUUGUAUGUCUCAACAUCAGGCUUGCACCUACGGCAGAGAUACUAUGGAAUUAUCAUGUCACCACAAAGUUAAAUAAGAUUUUUGAAUGAGAAACCGUCAAAUACUUCAAAAGUUAAUAUUUAUAACAUUUGAGGAUACAAGAAGGCUAUUGCUUGGAAAAUUAUAAAACUCCAAAGCUAACAAUAUAUGCACAUAUCAUUUUAGUGUCAGCCAUGCAUGUCAAUCUGUCACCUGCUUGUAUUACACUAUUUAUGUCAUUUCAUGUAAAUUACAUUAUAAUCUUUGUUGUAAAUAAGAUAUUAUUUAGGCUAAAUCUGAUAUUACUGUGUAUGGGUUUUAUUUACUUUGAUUUAUUUCUGUGAAAUCGAGUGAGAGAGAAAAAGAGAAAGAAAACAGCCUUGCAGUCACUGUUUUGGCUGUAAUCAGCUGUGAAAAUGAAGAAGAAAGGUAGAGGAGUUGAGAGAAAGGGGUAUUCUAAAAUAAUUUCUUGUGCCUACACAUUAUGCUACAUAACAUAUUUAUACUAGUACCUAGAUAUACAAAGAAGGAAAGGUACCUAUUUUAAUGCUAAUUAAUCCCUAGAAUUAUGUACAAUAAAUCUAAAGAUACUAAUAGGAUCAUAACAAUUUCCUUAAGUUGACUAUAGUAACUUGUAUAAAUGAGAUGCUCUUCUCAUAAUUUUCUUCUUACACUCUUCUCGAUUCCUACCUUGGUUACAUGGAAUCAGUGCCUUUCGGCUUUUUUUUUUUUUUUUUUUUGGUUUGUGUUUCAUUGUUUUUUGGGGUACUUUAAUGAGUCACUUUUAAAGUGAUUUUAUAGUGUGCACUGGCAGCAAAAGGAGCGCCAUCAUUUCUUCAGCAGAUUUGCAACUUCUGACAACUGGAAAGCAAGUGUGUGAAGCUCACGCACCAUCCAAAGCUGAGCAAACCUUCGUCACAUGGCGGUGCGUGGGGAAGCUUGGGAGGCCUUCUUUCACCGAAUUCUUCCUCCGGUGCCGACUAGUCUGUUUGACCAUAACCCAGCCUUUGGGUGCCUGAUCAGAGCUGGGUUUCAGGGAAUUUGUAUCGGUUUGGAUUUGUGCGAUUGUUUGACCAUUUUGUGGCUAAUAAGUUUUAGGAAAUUCAGAUGAUUCCCCUCUUCGGUUUGAAGUUGGUGGCUUUCCUCGGGUUAUUUUGGAAUAUUUUGCUUGAAAUUUGGUUCUUUAAAUUUUCUUUACUUGUUUUAUCCAUUGUUACUUGGAUUUAAAGGAUGGCUUGUUUUAUCCAUUGUUACUUGGAUUUAAAGGAUGGCAAUAAAACCUAAAGUCCUUACAAGCGAGAUGAUUUUGAUAAUGUUGAGAAUUACAGAGCACAAAUUAAAUGAAACCAAUUAUCUAGAUUGGAGCAAGAUGGUUAGAAUUUACUUACAAAGCAUUGAUAAAGAUGAUCGCUUGAAUAACGAACCUCCUACUGAUGAUACUAGACAAGUGUGGCUGAGAGAAGAUGCUCAAUUGUUUUUUCAUAUUCGAAAUUCUAUUGAUAGUGAGAUAAUUUCCCUAAUUACCACAGUAAUUUUGUUAAGGAGCUAAUGAAUUACUAGGUUUUUUUUUUUUUUUGUAUUUAGGUAAAGAAAAUAUUUCUCAUGAUUAAGAAGUACGUCAACUAAUUGCUUGUCAAAUGUCACAUGAACUAAAAGCACCUAUAGUCAAUUUCUGUUUGAUAAAGUGAUGAUCAAUCUUAAUGUAUUUUGUUCCAUCAUGUUCAACUGGAUUUUGAGCUAUGUUGAUGGCAGCCUUGUUGUUAUAGUACAAGGAUAGUUUUCUGUUUUCUAAGAAGAGCACUAUUAUUAGUCUGAGCUGAAUGAGUGUCUUCAAUACACAACAUUCUCGUAAAAGUAUCUUGAAGAGAUGAAAUUUUAGAUCCAGAAAGAAUAUGUGAUUUGGCAGUCUCAAACUUCGAAGGAAGGUCAAUGAGGAAACUCAUAAUUGUCAUUUGUUCCUGUUAAGGAAGCUGAUCUUUAACAUUUGGGCUAAACGACAGUAGAACAUUAAACUCUUUAUACACCUUUUUAAACUCCAUAAACUGAUUUUUAGGGAUUUCAAUUUCUGAUAUUUGGGGAUAUUAUUACAAUUUACAACUUUACUGAUCUAUUUCUGAUUCAGACAGCCAUAUACUUGUAAAGCUUUAAACAACAUGAUGAAAUAUUCUAGCAAUCCACAGUGCCCUAAAGUUACUUAAGGAUAAUCAAUCAUGGCCGUAUCAUAGUUCUACAGCCAAAUAGUCAUUAUUUAGGAUAUAAUUAACAUGGGGUUCAGAACUUUUCCAGGUUCCACCAAUUACAGUUCCUUGGUCAUUAGUAUGAAGGCUCCCCACCAAAAUGUACGAGUUCAGAAUAUUCUAUAAAAGUUUAUAAUUAAUUGAGAUCUCAUGCCAAUUGAGCAAUUGUAUUGAUGCAGUCUGUAGCUGUAGCUUUAUUAGAAAUAAUUAAACUAGGAUAAUGACUUCAAAGAUCUUGAUAGAAAAACUACAAAGGCUACUUCUUGCCCAGCAUAAGAAGACUCCAAAAAGCUACACUUUUGUUAGACAGACAUGUACUUGUCUACGAACAGCAAAUUUAUUCUUGACUUCUAACCAUUUUAUAAUCAUCAUGAGAUCUACACGAGUAAAGUUUUGCAUACGGUUAAACGUAGUUUAUGUAAGUUGGAAAUGACACACUAAAUUCUAUAUAACAUUAAACAAACAGAAAGCAUUACCUCCACUUUUGCAUUUCAAAGAACAACCCCCUAGCCUGAUCUGUCCGUUUAUGUCUAGCAUGUAAUCUUAUCAUCAUAUUGUAGAUAUCAGUUCGAGCACAGUAGUUCUUCUGCUUUUUCAUCCACUCAAAUACUUUUAUACUAUGUUCAAUUGCACCCCUUUGUGUCAGUUCCUGCAAAUUCAGCAUCAAAAUCACUCAACCGAAUCACUAAUUAUUCUUAGGCUUUGUUUGGUUCUUACUUUCGUAUCUGCUUUUUUUUUUUUCUUAUUAAAAACGAGUAAAUGAAGAAUGUGAGGCGAGGAAGCAUUUUCCAUUAUUUGAAAAUUUUAACAUUUACUUGUUCAACACGUGCACUUAUGCUUGGAAUUAUUUUAAGAAAAAAAAAUACAGAGAGUAACAGCUAUGUAUUUUAUAGCUUUAUAGAAGCAUAAGAACGUGGCAUACCUUAAUGAGGAAGGGGAAAUUUUUCCUAGCAAAACGGCCAACCCACCGGUUCAGUACCGGUUCGACAUUUUCCCAAUGAUUGAGCUCCAGCACUCGGUCGACCACCUCAGAUAUGGUCCAGUCCUUCUGGAAGCGGUCGCCUUCUACACGCAAACGGUACCGUUUAGGGAUAUGGGCCUUCCUGAGUCCACUCACCCGAGUGGAAACCUCGUGCUGGCCCUUGUCGUAGUCGACGAACCCGGAUUUAUGUUCCUCAAACGCGGUGUCGUUAUUGCGUUUCUUGCAAAUGAUAAGGGAUUUGGAGGGAGUGGAGUGGGUGGAAGUUGGCGAGUUGAGAGGGAAUUUGAUAGGGAGCGGAUGGGAUAGAGUGGUCACUGAAUUUGAGGGUUGGAAUGUUUGGAAAAUUUUAGUAUUAGCAACAAACCAGUGGAAUUUUUAAUACAAAAAUCAAUAAAGCAAAACAACUUCAAAGAAAGGAAAAAAACAGGGUUCAGAUUUAUUUAGCAUAGCUGAAGAUUUAAGGUUACCGUCGAAGAUAAUUGGGAAUCCCCAAAGCCUAAACCUGCAAAAAUAUCAAAUAUAUUAAAGGCACUAAAAUGUUAAUAAAAUUAAAAGGAAGAAGACGAAUAGACUGUCACUUACAGAAGGAGAUGUGGAAUUAAAAACUCGACUGAGGGUUUUUGGGUGAUUAUUAGUAUCUACCUUGGGAUCCACACUUUUUAUGGGAGGAUAAGGUUAAGAGUGGGUUGAUUGGGUAUGAAGCACAUUUCCUUUCAUUAGUUCUGCAACUUCGUUUGGGGAGGAAGGCUUGGCAGAAAGGAAUGUAUGUCGCAAUUGCUCAAAAUUUUGAACAUUCUUCUUUUCAGAAUUCAAUCUGCCCCCUCUUUGGUGCUCUCUUCAAGCUUCUGUAAUAUCUUUUCUGACACGUAUGAAUGGUAAAAUAUCAUUAAUAGUCCCCAUAUUUCAUCAAAAUUUCAUGAUUACAAAUUUUAGUUACUUUUUCAAUUGUCAUUUCCCCCAGUUUCAAUACAAUAUUAAGACUUUGGUGGUUGAAUUUUUUAAUUUCUUCUUUUAAAAAAUUUAUCUUUUGGAAUUUUAAUAAAAUGUUGAGGGAUCAUUUGUGAUAUUUUCCAUUCUAAGCCCAAAGCAUAGAAAGCGCAACCACCAAAGAACCGCUUUUGAAAAUUAAAAUUGGAUGGGCUAUAUUGAAAUUUUGAUAUGCAUUCAAGGGUCAUUUAUGAUAUAACAUCAUUUUUCAUCAUUUAUGAUUUUACUAAAUGGCCCGUGAAUGUAUAUAAAAUUUUCAAUAUAGUCCGUCAAAUUUAAAAUUAUGUUUUUUGUAAUUUUUUAUUAUUAGUAAAAAAAAUACCAAUAUGAAAACCAUUUUGUAAGUUUAAAAGUAACAUAUAAGUUCCAAUAUAAAAGUGUAAAUACAAUUUCUUUAAUUAGUAAAUUUUAAAUUCCCAUAUUUUACAAGUAAUUGAAUUUCAAUUUUCUAAAUUUUUUAAAUUCUUAUAAUAAUUUUUAAUUUAUUUUUUAAGUGUUUUUUAGUUUAGAAAAUAACAUACUAUUUUAAAAUAAAAUUUAUAAAAGGAGGGACCAUAUCAAAAUUUUGAUAAAUUUUAAAGUGGAUAGAAUAUAUUGAAAUUUUGAUAAACUUUUAGAGAUUAUUUUUUAUAUUACUCCAUUUAUAUUUGAGCAUUUAAUCUUCCUUUGCCCAAAGUGGAAGACGGUUUUCGUAGGUAUAGGUAAUUCUCGAAGCCCCGAGAGGUGAAUUCAGCAUCCAGACCAUAGUCUUCAACUCAACAAAGUUUGUAUACCUCUUUUAAUUUUGUCAAAUGGUAUAUACCUAGUAUUACUUAGUUCUAAGUUGAAAAUGGUCAAAUUCAUGUAUCAGAGUUGUGGACAUAAGAAAAUGAUAAUGGUUCAUGCAUGAAAAAGAUUUUGUUGAUUUAAAGUUCUAUAUUGAACUUGCCAUAUGUGUGAAAUGGUCUUUUGGGACUUAAGAUUUACUAAUUGUUGUUUUAAGUUAAGUUGAAAUUAAGAGGAAUCACAAUUUUGGUAUAUGUGUGAAAUGGUCUUUUGGGGACUCGGUCUGAUGAAUACUUACUACUCAUAAAUUACAAAUACGCUAGAUUUUCCGUACUGACUGACUAAUAUGGCAGAUUCACCCUUCAGCUAACACUACUGGAAACUCUUUUAGGAAACAAGGGUUAUUUUCAUUUUCUUGAAAAAUGGUGAAGAAAACAUGUUGGGAUAAAAAAAUUAAAAAUAAUUUUUGAAAAAUGAAAAUAAAAAUAUGUGAAAAUUAGAGAAUAUUUUAGAUAAAAAAAUGAUUUAGAAAAAUAGAUUAGCACGACUCAAACCCAAACCACACCUGAGACGAUAAACACCCUUAACUAUUAUGCCAUCACAUGGGUUAACAUUUUUUCUUUACUUUCAAUGCCUUUAAAAACACAAUUUGGUUCUCAUUAAAAUCAUCAUUCAACUUGGUAAGGUUAAAAGAGUUAUGCUAGUAUUGGUCACAUGGGCUUGAACCACUUCGGCUCCACUCAUUUCUCAUUAAACAUAUAUAUAUUGCCACAACAUUUGCUUUGAUUAUUUAGUUUAAGGUUAACUUAAAGUUUUUCUUUGGUUGCCAAAGACGCUUAUAAGAAUCUAAGCACCAGAAUCACUGUAGUUCUCUACACAUCUAGAAACUGACCCUUUAUCCAUCUGCACAAGACUAGCAGUAGCAUUAGGCAAAUUUUCAAAUAGACUCAACACCAUUCCUAAAUUUCUUCCAAUCCUAGCCAAAGAGUUUGCAACUUUGUCAUGUAGUUAUAUUUAUUUUGUUCAACCUAUAGUUGUAAUUUUGAAUCUAGUAGAACAAAAUAAUAUAAAAUUUACAUGGUGUUCAAUAAUGGUAUUGAUUGGUUAGCAAAAUCAGCUCUAUGUAGGAAAAAUUAUGGUAUUGUGCAGCACUUGUAACUGGUUUUGAUUUUGUAUAUGGUAUUUUAUCAUGCACAGGCAUCAAUCAAGAGGGAAAGAAGAAUUAUUUAAUGAGGUAUUCUUUUGGUAGCGAUUUCAUCAAGAGAAGGGAUUUUAACCGUAAGGAGGCUGAGGAAACUUGGAGAGUCAAUAGAUUAAUCGGGAUGACAACUAAAAAGGAUGAUGAUUUAGUCAUGAAAAAGUUAGUAGUCUUGAGGUGCGACUUCUCUCUUAUUUCUUAUUCGUGUUGAGGUGCUCUUUAUCUGCGACUAAAUGAAGUUGGUUUACUCAAAAGUGGUUUGGUGAAGAAAUUAGUGGUUAAUUUGAGACUUGAUCUUAUCAUGUUAACUUAAAACAAAACUAGCAAAGGUGGAAGAUGGGAUUGUUCAAAUGAUUUGGACGGAUUCUAAUAGUUGGUGUGAUUGUGGAGCUCUUAAAUAUUGUUAUCCUACUAUGUCUUUCCUUAGGAAUAGACGCAUUUCGAUCUCGGAUGAGCAUGUUGUUUGUCAUUGGUGCAAAGUGAAAUCUAAGGAUGUUAGUCACAUUUUGUUGAACUAUGCCCGAGUUAACAAAUUCUGAGGUAUUUUAUCCUUUCUUUCGUUAUGCUUUGAUAAGUUGGUGUCUAAACCUCUGUUUAAUUGGUGGUUGAUGUCUAUUAUGGUUGCCUUGUGGACCAUCUAGAGUGCAAGAAAUGAUUCUAUGUUUAGAGCAAAAGAUUUUAAUUUGGAGAACAUUUUUUUUCUGGUUAAAUUAAGAUCUUUGCAUUGGAUAAAAGUCUUGCCAGAAUGUAUGAAUUUUGAUGGAUAAAAGUCUUGCCAGAAUGUAUGAAUUUUGAUGAGUCAAUGUGGGGGAAGGGGGUGUCCGCGAGAUUGUGAAAGGAGUAUCCGUAGCCAUCAUACCAAGAGUGUGACGCGUUGGGAACCUUCAAAUGAAGGCUGAUUAAAGUUUAACGAUGAUGGUUCAACAUUAGGUAAAUUUGGCCUGACAGAGUGUGGAAUGGAUUUUAGAAAUUCAAAGGGUCAUGUCAUUGAUAUGCUUCAGGUCCCUAAGGCAUCCAAGAUUCUAAUUUCGCUGAAAUUAUGACGAUUAAGUUGGCUCUUCAUUUCUUCUUAGACUCCAAGAGGAUUAAAGACUAAAAGCUUAUGGUUGACUCCGACUUCAUAGUCGCGCUUACUUGGUGUAUCAAUGAGAAAUCUAGGCCUUGGAAAUAUUAGCACAUUUUAGCAAGCAUUGAUGAGAUUAAGAUGUCCAUUCAUGAGGUACUAUUUAGAAAAAGUGGGAGAGAUGCUACUGGUAUGGCAGAUUCGUUGGCAAAAUCAGAAUGCUUUCGAUCUUAAAUGUUUUUUUUGUGAUUGGUGAUGAGCAUCGUUGAGUUUAAUUGAGAUGAUAGUUUCAUUGUUAUUUCAUCCAAGAAAAUUCACCGCAGCGAUUAUUAGACUAUCAAACAACAGUAUUUUGUGCCUAUUUGAACGUCAGUGCUGCUGUUUUAAGGUGUGCUGCAGUUGCAAUAAUCAUAACCAAUAAUUCUACAAAAAUAAUUAAGUUAACUAAGUUUGAUUAAAGAUAAAUACUUUAUUUUACGAUAGUUUUGGUAAUUAAAUAAUGAAAAGAAUUAUUUUUUCUGUUAUGAAAAUAUUUAUCUUGUAUCUGUUUCACUUGAAACAAUUUUCAAAAAAUGAGUUCAAGAGAACUUAUCAAAUACUGUAAAAUUUUUUACAUAAAAUCAUUCGGAAAAUAUUACAUUUUUCCGAAAAGCAAACUAUUUUCCGGAAAUCAUUUUCCAGAAAAUGUUUUCAAUCAAACAAACAAACCCCAAAUUUGAUUGAAUUCCACACUUGGAGUUAGAAGUUCUGAGCAGCCGAAAAUUAUACAGAUGCUAUUGUCAUUGCUACAGAUAUUGGUUUUCCCCUAAGUUCUUACCAUUACCACCAACAAGAUUCUCACUUACAACACAAAGUCAGAACAAAAUCAACAAUAUUGAAAAUAGACACUAAAACUCAUUCUAGUUUCCAGAAUCUUUUAUCACUGUACAAUGGUUAUGUACAACUGAUUCACAUUGCAAGUGAUGAUCGUUACACAAUUUGUUAAACAUUUCAGAGCAAGAUUGAUUUAUUAGAGUGUAUGAUAAGAUCCAUAAACAAGGUGGCAGUGAUUAUAUCUGCAGAAAAGCCCUUACCAACCAUUUCCAUAAGAAGUUGCGUUGCCUUUGAAGAAUAGCUGUUGCGAAGGAACCCCCGAAUCGUUACAUUAUAACAGCAGCUAUUAGGCAAACAGUCAUUAUCUCCCAUGCUCCCAAAUAACCUGUAUGCUUCAGCCGGCAAUCCCUCUUUACACAGUCUAUUAAUCAUUAAAUAAUAUGUGACAACAUCCGGUUUUAAACCAUUGUUUGAGAGUUGAUGAAAUAAUUCCUUGGCAACUUCGAUAUGCCCAGCUUUACAAAACCCAUCAAUUAGGAUAGUAUACGGGACAAUAUCAAGUUCAAACCCACUGUUUUGCAUUGCUUGAUAAAGUUUCAAUGCCUCUUCGAUAUGACCUGUUUUGCAUAAACCAUCCAGCAAAAUCAAACAGGUCACUAUAUCUGGAACUUGUCCAGAAGCAAGCAUCUUUCUAAAAAGUUCACAUGCAGUUGAAACUUUCCCUAACUGAAACAUACUCUGCAUAAGAGUGCUGUAUGUGACAAAAUCUGGGAUUGGUCCCUUUCGAGAUAUUUCAUGAAAGAGUUCCAUUGCUUCGUCUAACCUUUUAUCUUUGCAAUAUCCAUUGAUCAUGGUGUUGUAAGUAACUAUAUUAGGUGCACAACCCUUCUCAAUCAUCAAGUUGAAAACUCUUCUAGCUUUAUCCAUUUCAUUCUGAAAGCAAUGACCAUUAACUAAUGCACAAUAGGUAACAACAUCAGGCUCAAUGCCUCGCUUUAUCAUUGCAUCAACAAUAUCCUCAGCUUCAAAGACCAUCCCUUCCUUGCAAUGCGCAUCAACGAAUGUAUUAUACGUGACAACAUUAGGCUCAAUGCCUCGCUUUAUCAUUGCAUCAACAAUAUCCUCAGCUUCAAAGACCAUCCCUUCCUUGCAAUGCGCAUCAACCAAUGUAUUAUACGUGACAACAUUAGGCUCAAUGCCUUGCUUUCUCAUCAUGUCAACGGUCUCUACAGCUUUAGAAAUCGUUCCUUCCUUGCAAAGAGCAUCAAUCAAUAAAGUAUAUGCGACAAUAUCAAGUGAAAUAUUGUUAUCCACCAUUUCAUUCAAGAGCCUUGUUGCCUCCUCCUGCUGGCCCGAAUUACACAUACCAUGAAUUAAGCAAGUGUAAGUAAUGAUCUUUGGUCUAAUGCCCUUAACCUUCACUUCGGAGAAGAGAUCGAGAGCCUCCUUUAAUAACCCGUUCUUACAAGGACAGUCAAUGACAGUGCUAUAUGCUACAUUAUUGGGUUCGAAACCUCUGCUUUCCAUCAACCUUAGAAACCUAACAGCUCUAUCAGUAUUGCCGAUCUUAGACAACCUUAAGUACUGUAUUGUAAACAAUCAAAUUAGGUUGAUACCCUUUUUCAGUCAUUUCAUCGAACAUACAAACGGCCUCAGAAAUCUUACUUUGAUUACAAAUCCCGUUUAUCAAAGUUGAAAAAGUUACAGCACUAGGUUCAACACCUAACUUCAGCAUUUUCCCCAAAACAGACAACCCAAAAUCAAUUCGACCUAAUUGACAAAAGCAAUUAAUCAAGAUGCUCACAGAAUAAACAUCAUGGGAAACGCCUAAUAAUUCCAUCUGGCUACACAUAGAAACAACAAUGGCAUAAUGUUUCAUUCUAACAAUGGCUGCAAAUAAUUUAGUGAAUCCCAGAAUUGAAGGCACUUGGUACCUGCCAAUCAUCUUAUUGAACAAAAUCAAAGCAUGAUCAACAUUCUCGAAGCCAUCAUCCCCUUUUCCCUUUCCUCUAACAGACAUGGCUUUCUUACUUAAGGCUUUGAUGUGGGGAGCAAUGGUGUUAGAAGAAGAAGAAGAAGAAGAGUGGAAGUUAGAAAGAUGGCUUCCACCAUUAACAAGUGAACGAAGAAUAAAAGAAGAAGGAAGCUUACCCAUAUCUUGAAAGUAAGCAAAAUGAAAACAAAAAAAAAAACAAAGAGAGCUGAGCUUGAAAAUGAAACCUUAUUUGGGUUCGUUACUUUCCCGGCUGAAAAAGCCGUAACAGAGAGGCUCCGGAGAUUUCAGCUUCCUCACCUUACUGUCUACUCUUGUGUCGAUGGUGGAUGGAUGAUUAGAAACAUCAACGUUGGGCACCUCUCCCAUAGCCCAAACAUUCAGCCCAUUCUUGGCACCCAUCAUUUUUUUCAUUUCUAAAAUUUCAAUCCUCGUUUAAGUUCAAUUCUGCUACUUACAAAAUUUUAUCUAACAAAUAUAUUAAUACAUAUUAAAUAUUACAUCAAUUUAUUAUUUUAGUAUAAUAAUUAUAAAAAAAUCAUCUUAUUUUAAUUAAAAAAAUUUAAUGACUAAUACACAUACCACGAGACUAAUAAUAAAAUUUUAUCUAUCAAAUUCAAUUGUUACGGUUUACCCUAAAAUUAAAAUUUUAAAAGUUUAAUUUUUUUUAAAGAUCUUAAUCAUUUGAAUCAAGGAAUAGCACUAAGGUCUAAAUGUUAAAAUAUUCACGCUUAAUUUAUCUUAUCUUUUCAUUAAUUUAAAAUAACAUCAUAGUUACUAACAAGCAUAGCGUAUAACGGUAAUUCAUAUUGCAUUUUUAAAGAAAUAUGUAAGAUUAAAUCUUGGAGGCGACAUUGUCAAAAAGAAAAACCUCUAAAACAAACAUGAAAAAUACUAAAAAAAUUAAUGUAAUUAUAUAUAUUUAUGUGUGUAUAUGUUCAUACCAUACAUACAUGCCUUUGGAGAUAGCUUUUAAAGUUUAAGGUAUACAUGGGAUGUUAUCUUUAAUGUGAAUUUUUUUUGGUAGGCUUGAAUUUAAAUAUUUAUUGUUUUAUAUAACCUUUUUUCGGAUCAAAUCAUUUAUAAUAUAUAUGAAAAGUAAAUACAUGAAUAUCGUAGAUAUUAGGCCUUGAAAUUGUGAUGGUUAGCUUUUUUGAGGGUGUAAUUGAAAUGUGAGAGGAAAAAAAGAGAGAGGGAAAGUAGAAGUCAGGGUCGAGUUUGGAUCAUGUCUCAACAAAAUUUUAGGCCUGUUUUUGAAGUCUAGGUUCGGUUUAACUCGAAAAAUAGGUUUGAAAAUUACCCAAGUUUAGUUCAAAUUAUAAAAUCUAAACCCGAGCCUAACCCGUAUUAAAUUUUUUUAUUAUAAAAGUUGAGAUACAAAAUUAUGUCAAAAAUUAAAAUAUAAAAAAUAAAUUAUUUUGCAUUUUAGGCCGAGUUUUGUAAUAUUUAGGGAAAUAAAUUGAUUUUGGAGAGAGCGUGAAAACGUAUCUAGCUGAAAGCGUUUUUUACAUAAUUGGCAGGAAUUUGCACCCAGCUAGACUCGUUUUCCCUUACGCAUUUUCUGAUUUUAUUUUUAAUAAAAUUAGUUACUUUGAUCAGAUGAUUAAAUGUUAGUGGUUUUGUACGAUUCCUCUUUUAAGCACAUUUAUAAUUUUUAUUUCAUCAUGUUUCAAGCUUUUUUAUUUAUUUUUAAUUAAUAAAUAUAUUGUUUUGAAGUUUUUUUAUUUUUAAUUCAUCUUUUUAAUUAAUGUCUCUUUUAUUUAUAAAAUUAAAUAAUAAAUAUGUAAUUAUAUAAUAAAAAUAUAUAUUUUAUGUAUAACUUCUUUAUAUAUAAUACAAACAUCAACUAAUUUUGUAUGUAAUAUAAAAUGAAAUAAUUAUUUCAAAUAUAAUUAUUGUUUUUAUAUGUAAUAUAUUUCAAAUAUUUUUAAUCAUUUGACCAAAAAAACUAAUUAUAUUAAAAAACUCAGAAAAUGUGUCUUAAAGUAAAAAAAUCAGGAUAGUAAAAUCAAGAGUGGUCAUGCUUUGUUUUUAAAUUAAGGUUGUAGGAAUUUUGUAAAGUGAAUUAAUUUGGUUUUGUGAUUAAGUGUUGUGUUUGUGUAUGAGAGUACCUGUGUUCAAAUUUUUUUCCUUGAACUUUUGCUAUUUUUGCCCUAACCUGUAACACCCCUAACCCGUAUCCGUCGUCGAAUUAGGGUUGCGAGACAUUAUUGGACAAAACACAACUCAAUACAGACAUUCAACAAAAUUCAAGAAUUUAACAUUUAUAUGCAAUUCGUUUGAAUACGGGUUUAAAUCUACUAUUUUCAAAUCAAGAUAUAAGCAUCGUAUAUAUAUAUAAAAUGAAAUAUAUUAAGCUUAGUCAAAUUUUAAGUAAGUAUAAUUAUAAAUUCUACUUUAACCUUUUAAAACAAAACAAAACAUUUCGAUCCCGUUAAACCAUAAUAAAAUAAGCCAUUUUCGUAUGGCUAUUAAUUAUAUAUACAGUACAUCAAAGUACGACUUCCAAAACAUUAUUUAGCCUAUACAUGCCAUAAGUUAAAAUUUAAACAUUUCAAUACCGAGACAAUAGAUAGAGUGAUGAUCUUUGCUGACGAUCCCCGAGCCUGCAGCUUUAUUUUUAUCUAUAAAACAAAUGGACGUAAACUAACAAAGUAAGCUUUUAUCGCUUAGUAAGUCUUUAGCAUAUCUAUAAUACAUAUAAAAGAAUCAUAUAACUCCUUAAGUAAAUUUAUUGAGAUCACAAAUACCAUUCAAACAUUGCUAUCUUAAGUCAUUUUGUUGAUAUCUAAAAGAAUGUAUAUUUAAUUAAUACAUAUAAACGAACAUAUGUAUAUUCAUUAUAUGCAUAUAACCAAGCUAUACACAUACUGUAUAUUCAUUAUAUGCAUAUAACCAAGCUAUACACAUACUCACUAUCUGCAUAUACUGAUUGCUAGUGUACUUAUCGCUUGCACUUCAUCGAACACAUUUAUAUAUAUAAUUAUUCAAAUACAUAUGCCAAAAGCAUAUAUUUAUACUUAUCAAUUACAUGUGCCAAAUGCACAUAUAUACUUGUAAUCCACAUAUGCCGAAUGCAUACAUAUAUAUAUCCAACAAUUUCAUAACAACCAAUAUACGUACUUACUCGCUAAACACAAAGAUCCAAACGUUUAUAUGCUCAUCAAAUACAUAGAAACAAAUGUUCAUAUAUUUAUCCAUUACAUAUAACCAAAAUCAUAUAUAUACCCGAUGCAUAUAAUCACUUAAUUUAAACAGAUUCACCGGCACUUAGCCUAUUAGGCUUAAAGCCUAAUUCAGAUCACCGGCACUUAGCCUGUCAGGCUUAUAACCUGAUUCAGAUCACUGGCAUUUAGCCUGAUUCAAAUCACUGGCACUUAGCCUGUUAGGCUUAUAACCUGGUUCAGAUCACCGGCACUUAGCCUACUAGGCUUAUAGCCUGAUUCAGUUCACCGACACUUAGCUUGCUAGGCUUAUAGCUUGAUUCAGUUCACCGGCACUUAGCCUGCUAGGCUUAUAGCCUGGUUUAGAUCACCGGCACUUAGCCUGUUAGACUUAUAGUCCGAAAUGUUUCACCGGCAUCAAGCCUGCUAGACAUAAAGUCUGAAUUAUCCCACUGGCGAUAAGCCUUCUAGACACUGAGCCUGAAAUAUCAUUUCACAUAAGUUGUAACUCAUAUUCAAACUAUAUAUGUAUAUAAAAUCCAUACAUAAAAAUUCAACCCAAAAUUUAUAACUUAUAUGCUUGAACCACAUGGAUAUAUAUAAAGUUCAAUCACCAAAUCCAACAUUAAUAUCUCAAUGAUUCAACCGAACAAAUUUAUAUAUAACUUCAUACUUUAGAUACUACUACUAAUAUCAUACUAUUUAACUUAGAACAUACUAUGUACAUUUAACAUUCGAAUCUCACAUAUACCUAUAUAAUUUCAUACCCCAUUUCAAUAUAAAAACUUAUACAUGUACAUAUAUACAUAUUCGAAUCUAACAUAUAUACAUAUAUAAUUUUAUACUUACAUUCGAAACAAGUACUUAUACUUGUAUACACAUACAUUUUCGAAUUUAACUAAUACAUAUAUAAUUUCAUACUUAUACUCAAUAUAAGCAAUUAUACAUAAAUAUACAUGCUUAUUCGAUCCAAACAUAUACAAAUAUAUUAUACAUAUAUAUAUGUAACAUCCAUACUUUUAAUAAAAUCCAAGAAUUUAUACUCAUAUAUACAUACCUAUUCAAACCUCUUGUAAACAUAUAUAACAUUCAACAUUAACUAAAUUCAAAACUUAUUCAUGUAUAUACACAUAUAUCCGAACUUUAUUUAUAUAAAUAUAACAUACAUACUUUUAACUAAAUUCAAGAACUUAUACAUGUAUAUAUAUAUUAUCCACUAUUAGUUCUAUAUUAUUGAAAUUUAAACAAACUUUAGCUAACAUACAUGUAAUUUGCAUCAUUAAUAUCAACUUACCAAAGUAAAUUCUUGUUUUCGGCUAUCAAUAAUAAAAUUUAAAGUUUCAUUCAAUUUGAAUAUAUUAAGUUUCAGCUUAUCAUAUGUAAAAUAAAUAUAAUAAGCAUAUAUUUAAUUUAGAUAACAUUUAAUUGCUAAUUGACUUACCUCGGAUGUCGACAGACACGUUUGACUAUUCCACUACUUUCGUUUUUCCCCAAUCCAAUUCCGUUUUCUUCGUUUCUUGAUCUAAACAUAUUCAAAUUUAGCAUUUUUAUUCAACAAAUCAUUCAAUUAAAUCCAAAAAUACAUAAAUGGGCAAAUUACCAUUUUGCUCCUAAUAUUUUACACUUUUUACAAUUUAGUCCUUUUUGCACAAAACACAAAAUACACAAAAUUUAAUCACACCAUACUAGGGCCGAAUGUUCCUAGUGUUCACACAAGUCCACACAUUUCAUUUAUUUCACAUUUUAGUCCCUAGAAAAAUUAUUUUCACAAUUUUGCCCUAAUUACUCAAUUUCACCAAAAAUUCAAAGACAAAACAUGUUAAUCUUUCACAUAUCUUUCAUUUUUCAUCAUCAACUAUCACAAAGCUCAAUCAUUCAUCAAUUGCACAUUUCAAAAUCAUCAACAAUUCACAAAAUUAAGACAUGGGUUUUGAAGUAUUCAAAGCAACGAUCUCAAAAACGUAAAAAUUAUCAAAAACAGAACAAAAACUAACCUUGAAUUAAGCUUCAAAAGAUGGCCGAACCUAGCUUAGGUUUCUUUCUUUUUCUUUUCUCUAGUUUCGGUCAAAAUAAGAUGAAAAUGUAGCUUUUAAUUUGUUUGUCUUUUAAUAUAUUAACUUUAUAAUAUAAUAUAUUAUUAUAACCUUUAUACAUAAUAUAAAAACUAUAAAUUAUAAGCAUAAUGCUGUCCACUAUCUUGAUUAAUGACCUAAUUUCCUAUUAAGGACUUCACAUUAUAAAGACAUUAGCAAGUUAGCACUUUACACAUUAAUUAGUCAAUUUCACAUUUUACGCAAUUAAGUCCGUUUAUUAAAUUAAGCACACAAACAAUAAAAUCAAUUCACGAAACUUUCACACAUGUAAAUUAACACAUAAUAAACACAAAAAAUAACAUUAAAAUAUUUUUUUAGACUCGGAUUCGUGGUCCCAAAACCACUAUGUCCUAUUAGGGUCAAAAUCGGGCUGUGACAUAACCCCUCUAUCCUUGAACGUUUGGUUUAUAUAUUAUUUUCGCUUAAUUGAUGACAAAAAUGAGCUUGUUGGUUUAGUGGUAAGGCUUCAACUUAUUUAAAUGUGUUGUGUUUAAAUGUUGUUUGUGUAAAAUAGAAAUUACUUUUUUUUAUUUUAAACUUUGAAAAAAAUAUGAUAAGGAUAACUAAUCAGAUUUAGUGGGAGUUAAUGGGGAUCUGGGUAGUUUUUUGAUAAAUCUGUUUGAAAUUAUUUUCCCAAAAUUCUCAAUUGCUUUUCCACUCUCCACUCUUUCAAUUUUGGCUUUUCAAGUUAGAUUACUGCAUAAGAUUUUCUUUGUUUUCUUCUUUUUUCCCCCUUUUUUUCUGAAAUUUUCUCUUUUUCCUUCCUUCUCUUAUCUUUUUUUUUUGUCUGCCAUCAUUAUUUUGGUGAGUUCGUCACUCGAAUUUUGUAACCAGUCUUGCGUGUCUGGAAGUUCUUUGCUACAAUAUUUAAAUCUUACUGUAAAGUAAAAUUUAUUCUUGUGGUUGGGAGUGUUGAAUGUGAAAUUUUGGUUAAUGAUUUGUGAACGAUUUCUUUUGGGUUAAUUUCUCUUGUGUUUCUGAUAGGAGAUAAUAGAGAGACGCAAAACUCUCAUUCUGUAACACCCCAAACCUAGCCUAGACAUUAUGGUCGUAUCUGGCAAUGGCACAUGAUCGUGUUUUUGAAACCUCGUUGUUACGAUGAAAGCAUUCCAUGUUAUUAUCUUUAGUAAACAUUUGUUAGAACUUAGGAAGUCGCCUUUAUUCAUUUAAAAUAUUUGUUUUGAAACAUCUCUCGUUGGGGAAGCUUUAAUAAAACAGUCUAAGGGCAUGUUUGGUUCGCUGUAUUGGAUUAGAGGUGUAUUGGAUUAGAGGUGUAAUGGAAUAGAGGUGUAAUGGAAUAGAGGUGUAAUAGCAAAUCAACUGUUUGGUUGAAUGUAAUGGAAUAGAGGCGUAAUAGUAAUCUUGUGUUUGGUUGAAUGGAAUAGAGGUGUAAUAGCAUAAUGAAAAAAACUAAAAUGACUAGAAUACCCUUAGCAUAAAUUUAUUUUGGUAAAUGAUUAUUGUUAUUUAAAUUUUAAUAAGAUUAUUAUUAUCAAUAAUAAAUAAUUUAGUCAUAUUUAAACAUAAUUAUUAUUAAAUAUAUUAUAAUUAAAAUAUAUAAUUUAAUAAAAUUCUUAAUAAUUAAUAUUCUAAUAUGAAUUUACUCAAACCAUAAUAUAUGAUACUAUAAAAGAUAAUUUGAAAUGAUUAAUAUUAAAUAUAUUUUAAUUAAAAUAUAUGAUUUAAUAAAAUUUAAAAUAAUUAUAACUAAUAAAUUAUCUUAUAUGAAUUUGUAUAAUUUAAAAUAAUUAUUAUUACAUAUAAUUUAAUAAUAAUAUAUAAUUUCAUAAAAUUAUUGAUAAUAAUUUUUCUUAUAUGAAUUUAUACAAUUUAAAAUAAUUAAUAUUAAAUAUAAUUUAAUAAUGAUAUAUAAUUUCAUAACAUUCUUAAUAAUAAAAUGUUCUUAUAUGAAUUUACUAAAAUCAAAAUAUAACUUGAGAAUUAUAUUCUGCAUAAACAUAAUUAACUUAUAUUAAGAAAAGGUUAGAUGAAAAUGAAAUUCUACAUCAUAAUCCAUAUGUUAUAUAGUUUUACAACAUCAAAAAGUUUGAACAUCGAUUUUUUGCAUGUCAGAGCUGUGUUCUCCUACAUAUUAGAACAGCAGUUGUCGGCUCACUAGUUCUUGUAAAAACCACCCAAGAGAGAGCGAGCGAGAUGAGUGGCAUGGCCAAAACAAAAAUGUCAUGUAUACACACACCCAAAGUCUCCACGUCAGAAGGUCAAAGGAAAGACAGUUCAAUUUCUGUGUUAUUGCCAGCCAUUCUUCAUCGUAUUGAACCUCAUAAGGUCCUGGAUCAUAUUAAAUAUCAACAAUCUAAAAGAUCAGAGAAAGCCAGAAUUCAUUAAUUAGCUUCCAGCAAAGACCAAAAGAAAGAACCUAAACGAAAUGGUCAAAACUUAUGAUAGAUAUCUACAAGAACUUGCGCCCUGGAAGGCAAUUAUCGAGUGCAAGAAAUUUUGUCGCUCGACCACCCUCUUCAUGUUCAACAAGAGUGGUGAAUUUGCAGUGCAAGUAAGCUGAAAACCAAUAAAAUGGUUUGAAUUUUUUGAGCAGCUGAGCAACCAGGAAUGGUCAACAAGAAAACUGAAUACGCUUGAUAUGAAGAUUUUCAUUUUUUCACAUAUAUGCAUUUCCACCAAUCGGUUAUAAUUACCUCAUCUUUGAAUUGUUUUUUUGUAGCGAACAAGUUGUUGCCAGUUCCCAUAAUUAGUGCUGCUGAGCGGCCAAUCGUGUGAAAGGAAAAUUUAAGUCGGUUCCUCUAGGUGCAUGAGCUUGUGAACAUCAUACUCCCAGUUAUAAGAUGGCCUUUCAUGGUGUCAUGCUCAAGGAAAAGCUAAUUCAUUUCAGUUUCAAAGCUUCAACUCUCCACCCUAAAUAAGAAUCAAUAUAACAUAUCUGACACUCGCUUGCAGUAAAUAAACAAUUACCAUUAAAAGAAAUCCAGAAUAAACACAAAAUAGACAAGUAAAAGAACUUCAAACCCAACCUAAACAAUAAUUACUCUCAAAACUGCAUAUGCUUAUUGAUGCUGUCACUGAGAGUUAUAACAAAUAUUUCUUUGGGGACGUUGGGAGAGAAAUAUAUGAGUUCUUUUGGGGUUAUUUUGCUGACUGGUAUGUAGAAUGUUCUUUUAUAAUCUACUUUCUGCUAAUAGAACGUAGUUCUAUUGUUUUAUGCCAUUAAGUUCUGGAUUUUAUGCCAUUUACAGAUCAUGAAAACUGAAAAGUAAUGGAGUUUAUGCUGUUGUUAUAUAGCACAUAAUGCCCUUUUUUUCUAAGGUUAAAGUUGUAAAAUUCAUUUGGUGGAUAGUUUAUUGUUAUCAUUACUAGAAUUCUAUUGUAAGUUGGAUCAGUAUAUGUUGUUGACACAUACAUGAAAUACCUGUCAUGGUUGUAUGUUUUUUGCAAAAAAUACUGGUAUAAACACAGUGAAUACUCCACCUAUCCAAUAAUUAAUAAAAUAUAUGUGCCAUCGAAACAGUAUAAGUUCCUUUGCAAUGCCAUCGAAAGAAGCUAAACAUAUGUCAUAAUAGCAACUAGUAGAAAAUAACAAAUCAACAAGACAAAUGCUUAGAAAUACAAUGUAACAGACAGUGAACAGAAAAAUGGAAGUGAGAAAGAACAAGUGCAUCUGCAUGUGUGUUGCAGUGGGAGGAGAAUGCACCAGGCAUCACAACAAGUAAUAGCUCCAAUACAACAAUAGGAAGGGAUAUGUAAUGUUAGAUGGUAACGCCAAAAAGAAUACCAGAUCAUUGGCAGAACAAAAAGAUGAGCAAGACAUGUAGAGGUUCCAAUGUCACAACAAAAUUGGAAAGGAGACCUAAUUGUAAUCGCACUUGACAGCAAGUUGCAAGAAGUAUGGCAUGUUUAGGUCACCCAACCCUGAUACAUGAACACUGGAAGAACUGACACAACCAUUUCAAAUUAAAGGUUAUUACUCCGAACAGAGUAAUAGAUGACACACUUCAGCAUAUUGUAUUUUGACACCAAUAAAUGUGAUAAACACAAAGAAAUGCCAACAAGUAAUGCCCCAAGUUAAUAAAUUGUAGAUCCACCAAAACUAGUUGAAUUUAUACUACAAUAAUAGGGAAUCGGAGACAUCUUGUACUUGGAAGAGGAUGCAGAUACAUCUAUAUCUAUUUUCAACUCUAUUUAUACCUGACGGAGCCGUCUAUACUGCCCGCUACCAUAACUUCUGUUUCCAUUUGACCCUCUAGUGCCUGGACAUCAACUUGUCUGCUCCAAAGGACUAUAACAUAUAUUUCUUAAUAAAUUUUCAUCUAUUGCACCUUAUCUCCAAACCUGAAACAAAUCUGAAAUACUGUAAAAUAUAAUAAUGAAGACUAAGUGAUUAUCAAUAAGAAAUUUGGGAAUAAAACUCUAACUUAAAGAAUGAAAAAUAUUGCAAAAGAUAUAUGCGUGAGUAUUACAAACAAUAUAAAUUCAUCAAAUUUUGAGUUAUCUCCUCCAUUAAUUAGUUUAUUUUUGUCCUCUCCAGCAGCAAAACAAGGAUUAAGAGGAAGAGAUCGAUAUGGUGAUUACGAUUGACUCCAAGCAAUUUAAUUCUAGUCCAUAGGUUUCCCAUAAGAGAACGAAACAUUAUCUCCCCCGAAAGACAGAGACUUGGGAGUUGAGUUGUAGCUUAUAUUUUUAGAAAAAUUUAAAGAAAACCCAUCACCAAAAACCCUUCUAAACAAAAUUUGAUUAUUGCAAGAACAGAAACCAAACGAAAUUAAACUUGAAAAGAAAAAUCUGCUAACCUGAAAGUGUAAUGCUGUGAUAAAAGAAGCAACUUUGAACGCAUUUGCAGAGAAAGUGUGAAAGAGAUUUUGGGAAGAAUUUUCUUUAUUUCUAUUCAGCCAUAGUCGGAAUGGCCAUUCAAAGCAUUCAGCACUGAAUCCCUAUUACGCAUUUGAGGGAACCAACCAAACAAAGGCAUUGAUAUUCUCCCAAGAAUAAAGAGGGUGCCAACCAAACAUGGCCUGAUUCUUUUAAUCUAAAAACCGAAAAGAAACGGGGGGAGCAAAUCGGUAGAAAAGAAAAGAAAAUAAACUAGGAGCAAAUCGACAGAAAAGAAAAACAAAGAAACAAGGAAGCAAAUCGGAUGAAGGUAGAAGGAACAGAAGAGAAACAAAGGGGAUUGGGGAGGGUAAAACAUGGAGGGUUUGCUGAAGCGGUACCUAAUCUGGGCAAAAGAGGAGGAAUAGAAAUCGGUGGUUUUCACCGAUUAGGGAAGUAAUGGAUUACACGCGUAUUAGCAAUACAUUGAACCAAACGGCGGAUUAGAGAGUGAUUAGGUGGGGCCCACCAAUUAGAGGUGUAUUGGCAUAGCCAAUACACCAAACCAAACAUGGUGUAAGUGAUCAUGCGUUUAGAAAAUACAUUAACUUUUUGAAAACCGAAUUUCCUACGACCAGCAGGUAUAAAUUCAUAAAGUAAAAUAAAUAAAUAAAAACCCAAAAUAUAAAACUAAAGUCCUAGAGAGUCCUUAAAUUACAACCCAAAUAAUCAAUAAUAAUCAAAUCAUAAAUCAUAAAUUGAAAACCAUGUAGUCUAAAAAUUACAGUGGUCACCGCUGAGUCCUCCGUCACAUCGAACCGUCUAAGUUUAAGGAUUACCUGUACACAUUAAACAAAAAGGGUGGGUUUACGUAAACUCAGUGUGUAAUCUCGUAGAAACAAACAAACAAUCAGUAUUCACAGUGCACAGUUGAACAGCCUUGGGCCUAAUCCCUUUUCAGUAUCAGUGACAGUUUGGGCCUUAGCCCAUCUCAGUACAGUGUCAAAAUUGUAGUAGGGCCUUAGCCCAUCACAGUAUCAGUAGUAGUAACAACUAUGCAAUAGCAAAAUCCUACCCAACUAGCCUCUACACACCAUCUCCGUCCAACCCUACACUUUAUGUAGGGAUAUAAUCAACCCCCAUCCCUACACUCCUAGUGGUACCGAAUGUGGCACAAAACAGUAGUUUACAGCUGAGCUGCUAGUAAAUUAGGCUUAAAGCCUUUCAGUACACUUCCUCCAAAUAACAACCCCCAACCUAAUACAAAGCAAUAUACCAUGGAUGAUAUGCUAUUAUGUAAUUUCAAUACAUAUAUUCAGUUCAGAUAUUAACAUGCUCAGUACAAAUAUCAUUCAGUCAAUUUCACACAUUUAGGGGUCUAAGUAGCGUUUACCGACCUUACAGUAGGUUCACAGUCAACUUGGGCGACCCGUGCAACCUUAGAAUCUUUUCAGUAAAAAUGGGCCCACACACCCGUGUGUGCCUGUGUGGCCCACUCGACCCAAAUUGGCCUUGGCCGUGUGAUCCAUUUUUAAUGUAACCUAUGCUAGCUAAAUAUUCAUAUAUGUUUCCACUGUUUACUUAUAUGAUCAUUCAAAGCUGUCUACUUGAGUCAUUGUCACUAAAUUAUUUAUAUCUUGAGCUACAAAAUUCCAAAUUAAGAUCCGCUUAAUGUUUUCGAAACUAGACUCAAAUACCUUUCUAACAUAAAAUUUUCAGGAUUUAUAGCUUAUCAAAUAAGUACAGUAAAAUCUUCAAAAUUAUCCUUAUUCUGCUGUUUGAUAGCUUCAACCUUUCCUUACUAAAAAUUAUUUAUCUCUUAGUACGAAAUUUGGAUGAUGUUUCCAUUUAUUUCUCUUGAAAAUAGACUCGUUAAUGAUUUAAACGUAUAAAUUUUUUAAGCCCCUAACUACUUUUUUACAAUUGUUUACGAUUUCCCAAAGUUAGAAUUCUAACCUUGUCUCAUAAAAUUCAUCAUAUCUCAUAACUUACAAUUUCAUUGCUUACACUGUUUCUUCCAUGAAAAACUAAACUCAAUAAAAUUUAAUUUCAUAUUUUAUUCAACGUCUAACUCAUUUUCCACUAUUUUUGAUGAUUUUUCAAAUUUAGACUACUGUUGCUGUCUAAAACUAUUUUAGUGCAGAAUGUUGAUUUCCAAGUUUAUAACAUCAUUAUUUCCUUUUUCUACAAUUUUUUUUGUAUCAUUUUCUUUUAUUUCUCUUAUUUCUCAACAACAAGCAAUUUCGGCUUUUGUUCAAAUCCUAUUUUUUGCGUUUUGGGUACACACCUAAUAUCAUUUUAUUGUGCAAAGUAACCUGAGCCUUUAAAAACUUAUAUCUGACCAAUAUAUCCCUUAAUUAAUCACUUGAUUCGUCAAUCAAACCAAAUAUCCCCAACAUAAAACUCGAGAAACUAAACCAACGAUGAUUCGAAAACUUACCGCGAUGAAUCUGAUAACCAGUCGUCUCCACAAACUGGAAUAUCUACUUAAAACCUUUGAACAACACCUAAACGAAAGUAAAACAAACCCUUUGUUAAUUGCCUAAUCGAAAUACGAUAACUAAAGGGGAAAAUUCCACUUACCGAAAUAGAUGAAGUCGAAAGUUACACCCAAAGAGAUGACUCGUAAAAAAAUACAGAAACAAAAAGGGAGGGGAAGGAAAAGAAACAAGAUUUGGCCAAAGGGGAAUAAAAAACCAAAAGUGACCAAAAAGAGAGAAGACACGAUAGAGAAACAAAAGUCUAACGUCAGAAAAUUUGUUGGGGAAAAAAAUAGAAAACUGAUAAGAAUAAAAUCUUAUUUUGAUAACUUCUCCCCAAUUCAUUCAAAAUAUCCAAAUACCAAAAUUCAUUCAAAAUACAAAAAUUUGCCCAAGUGAAGGCUUGAACUUAGGACCUCCCAAAUACUCCCAGAACACAUAACCACUAAAGCUGACAAAUAUUUGUGUCAUAUUUUCACAAUAACGAAAUUGGAAAUUUUAGGGCGUUACACAUUCAACGAUUAGUUAGCGUUAGAAACUAUUACUUCAAAUCGGGGUAAGUGACUGAAUGUUUAUAAAUGCAUGAUUUUUGGUGCUAAGGCUAAAUAUUUAGCAUGUGUGGUUGAAAUAGUGUCUGGCUUUUAGUAUAUUGAGAUUUGAUUUGUAUAUAGUUAUUAAUUGGUUCGUUAUGAAUGCUGUUUUUAGGGUCUGAAAGUGUGUUGUAGUAUUGUUUUCCAUUUUUAUUAGGUCUGUACCUUUAAUCCUGAAAAACAGCGAACAACGCAAAGUUGAAAAACUCACUGCCAAAGCUACAUAGCCAUGUGGGUCACACGGGCUAGGUUAAAUGGGUCAUGUAGGCCACACAAUCGUGUGUUAGGCCGUAUGGUCCACACAGGCUGGGCUAGUUGGGUCGUGUGGGCCACACGUGCAUAUAGGCUCAUUUUAAGUAAAAUUUUGUCAGGGGUGUAUUAGAAGUGCGAUUCAAGAUCAGCCACUUCGUAGGUUACAAAAUGUGUUAUGUGUGACUUAUAGAUGUAAAAAUUGAUGUUCUACCUCUGUUUAUCCGAUUUUUGAAAGGAUGAUAGUAUGAUUUAUUGUGUAUAGCAUGUAUGACUUUUAGACAUGAAAUCUGAAAUACUGAUAUAACAUGUGUAAAAUCCGAGAGCAUAUCUGUGGUAUAAUUUCUACAUUUGGUGUAACACCCCCAACCCGUAUCUAUCAUCGAAACAAGGUUACGGGGCAUUACCGAGCUUACAGAUCAAACAGACAAAAAACUCAAACAUUUCAUAUCAUUUAGUAUUCAUGUCAAAAACCAAUCGACAUCAUACAUAUUGUCCCUAAUACUAGCCAUCGAGGCCCUAAAUACACUUUAGAAACAAAUUGGGACUAAAUUGGAAAUUUAGAGAAUUUUUUAGAAACUUAUAAAAUUUUAAAACUGCAAGGGACACAUGGCCAUGUGAGCAUACUGACUUGCUCUUUUAAAAGAUACAGGGGACACAUGGCUGUGUCACCUGGCCGUGUGUCACACACAGUUAAGACACACGCUUGUGUCUCUGCCUGUCUGGACGAAAAUAGGCUAUUUUUCAAGCCAUAUUUCUCACCCAAAUUGGUACCAAUCUAAACAUAACAAUUUGCAUAUAACCAAGUCAUAAAUAGGCAUCCAAAACCAACCAAAAUCAAGCUUAAAAUAUGUAAUAUUAUCACAUACAACCAAUAUGCUCUUAGGCACCUCAAAUGACAACUUAUAACUUGUAAAUCUAAGCAUUCAAUUUAUCCAAUUGUUUGACUAACUUAUAUAUAUAUUUGUAUCAAAACUUACCAUAUAGAUCAUAAAUCAAAACAUAGCAUUUAGUACUAUUUAUGUACUUGAUCUCUAGCAUCAAAUAGUCAUAUAAGUCACUUAUAACAAGUACACCAAAACACCAAUACAAACCAUUCAAAAUCUAACAUCAUUUUACAUAUGUGCUUUCCAUAACAAGCACUAAAUCACUCCAAAGUAAUAUACAUAUUAACCAUACCACACCAAACAUCAAACAUGAUAAGGCCAUUUAUACAUACAUAGCAAAAUAUUCUAAAACACAAGCCAAUUCAAAUGGCUGAAAACAUAACAAAACAUGUAGACUAUCAUUAGCCAAAAUAACCUAUACAUGCCAUUAUAACCAAAAGUACCGAAAAAGCUGAUAGAUAGUAUGAUAUAGCUCCGCCAAACUUUCAACCCGAACGAGCUUCCGAAUCACUAUAAAACACAAAAAAUAACAUAGAGUAAGCAUUUAAGCUUAGUAAGUUUGUAUAACAUAGAAUUUAACUUACUAUUUAACCACAAUUUAGGUAAAUAACUCAAAGCAUAUCACACUUCAAUUUGGCCAAAGCCUAACACAUAUUCAUCAACCAAGUUAGCCAUGUAAUUCAUAUAAAAAUUGAAAAUCAUGUAUGAGUUCAACAAUUAUUUAAAUUCCAUGUACAUGUAACAUCUAUACCAUGUAUCCGUAUAUCAUAUAUAAACCAUUUCCAUGUAAUUCAUGUAAAUACCUGUACUAGUUCGUAUCGAAAUCAUAUAAACUCGUAACAGAACUGUGCCCGUUAAACCAUUUAGAAUCUCGUUAGAUACGCAGGUAGUACACAUGAGGUGUACUGAACUGUAAUCCAUCAAUUCCUGUACAUGUAUGCUUACAUGAGGUAUAAACUGUAAGCUCUUUCGAUCUGAAUAAUGGUAAGCUCCUCCAGGUUGAAUAACGAUAAGCUCAUACGAGUUGAGUAUCGGUAAGCUUAUAAGAGCUGAAAUUGGUAACCCUAAUGACAUGUCAUUUGUAUCCUACGAAUUUCUAAGGUUCAAACAGGACUCGAUAAUCGUCGUACGUUGUUAGAUAUGCGAUCGAUAUUCAUAUAUGAUGAUCAUACAAUUAAAAUACAUUUAUUUCAAUUAAAGCAUAUAAUUACACAAUUUAAUUACACAAACUUACCUCGAUAAAUUUACAUAGAUUUGAAGACGACUAAUUCAAUUUUUUUCCUUUGCCUCGAUCUAACUCCAAACAAGGUCUAACCGGAUCUAUACGAAUGAAUUUAACUCAAUUCAAUAUUCUACUUAGUUCAACACAUAUUUUUGAUAAAAUUACCAUUUUGCUCUUAUACUUUUAAUUCUUUGCAAUUUAGUCCUUAGGCUUGAAAAAUUAAAUUCAUUCAAUUCUAUCCCUACCCAAGCCUUUAAACAUGCUUAUAGCAACCCAUAAAUUUAAAAAUUUCACACUUUUACUACAUAAUUUAUCACGUUUCUCAAUUUAAUCCCUAAUUGAUAAUUUCAUCAAAAAUUCCUUUACAAAAGUUGUUUAUCUAACAACAAACAUUAUUUUUCUACCAUUAAACUUCAAAACCCUAACAUACUCAUCAAUGGAAAAACUCAAAUACUUUAAUAUCUUAACAAAUUAGUCCUCGGGCUAGCUAGAAUAAGCUACAAUGAUCCUAGAAACAUAGAAAUCAUCAAAAACGAGAUGAAAAAUACUCACACGCAAGCAAAACAGGGAUGGCCGAAUGAAGCUUCAUCCAUGGCUUCUUUUUGUUUGAAAUUUCGGUUGAAGAAGAAAAAGUAAAGAUGAAAGCUUUAAUGUUUUGUUUAUUUUAUCAUUUAUUACCUAUUUACAAAAUUACCCUUAUCUAACCUUAAAAAUUACACUAAUGUCAAGCCAUGCACAUCCACUAUCACAUUUGAUGGUCUAAUUACCAUAUAAGGACUUCCAAUUUAAAGUUCUAUAACUAUUUAAUGCCUUUAGCUAUUAGAACUCAACUUUUGCACUUUACGCAAUUUAGUCUUUUUUAUCAAAUUGAACAUGUAAACGGCAAAAUUUCUUAACAAAAUUUUUAUAUGGUAAUACUAUCAUGUUUUAGAUCAUAAAAUAAUAUUAAAAUAAAUUUUUUGACUUAAGAUUUGUGGUCUCAAAAUCACUAUUCCGAUGUUACUAAAAACGGGCUGUUACAUUUGAUCUGUAAUUUGAGAAAUUUGUUUAAGCAUGAUGGUAUGUUUUGAUGUGUAUAGCAUGUAUGACAUAUGCAUCUGUUAUUUAUUUAGUGAUUGCAUGUGCAUUGGGGUGAGAUUAUGAUGCGAUAGAGGAAGUGUCAGUAAUUUAAGUGCAUAUUGAUAUUAGUAAGCCAUCGUUGCCGGGCAACUCGAGAUGGCAGGUCAUUGUUUUCAGGCAACUCGAGAUGACUUAACUGGUGGUAUAAUCACAUAUCUAUUUUUGUGGUUUGACCACAUUUAUCUAAUUUUGGCAAAUUACCGUACCAUAUUCGGCAGCAUGACUACACUAUUUUGAAAAGUGACAUACAUUCACUUAUAGGUGUAUGGGGUUGGAUGGGUAUUCGUUACCCUAAUUGGUCUGUAGGGAUGAACAGAGAUGGUGUGUAGUAGAUGAGGGUAGGAUAUGUAUUUACAUCUGUGUCUAUAUUUGUGUCUGUAUUUGCAUCUGUAUCUGCACCUGUAUCUGUAUUUGUAUUUGUAUAUGUAUAUGUAUAUGUAUUUACAUCUAUAACUGCAUCUGUAUCUAAAAUUUUCAUUUGUAUCUAUAUCUUUCUUCUUCUUCUUUUUGUGGGUUGAGUUACAUACUGAGCUCGUUAGCUCACCCAAUUUUUCUGACUUAUCAGGUAAUCAACAAACUUAGGACCGAACAGUGUAGGAGCUCAGAUUGAUUUUUUGGUUAAUAAUAUAAAUCGAUUUAUGAUUAAUUUAUUUAUGAUCUUUUGGAUUGUAAAUUUGUUUCUGGACUUUCUUUAUAGUUUCUGCUCAUUUUGUUGAAUUUUGGUAUUUUUAUCAUAAGACUACGAUAACGUAUGAAUUAUCAAAUUAGAAAUCAAUUUCCAAAAUUAAAACUCUAAAAUUUUUUUGCUGUAAUGUGAUUUGGUGGUUUUUCUGUAAAAUAAGUGUUUUUUCGAACAUGAGAUUUUCCAAAAAAUAUGUAAGAGUUUUGCCAAACUUAUAUUUUUGACACACACACUAAGUUAGAUAAAAUCAAAAUUUUUUUUUAGAGUUAAUGUAAUUCCUCAAGAUCUAGUAAUAACUUCUACGUCGAGUGUGGGGUGUUACAAAACCCAUUCCUUGAAGCUUCCUCCCCAAGACCUCCUCUUCCAUAUUGCUUGAACCAUCAAUACCUAAUUUAAACCAUGAUUAUAAUUUGCACAAAUUAAUAAAUAUUAUAUAAAAAAUAAAAAAUUAAUUAAAUAUAAUAAUUAUUAAUAUUAUUAAAUAUAAUUUUUUUGUUAGAAAAAAAUUUCUUUAACAUAUUGUUUUCUUAAAUUUCGUUUAGUUUAUAUUGUUUGAUGAACUCAAUUAAUUAAAUUACUUUAAAUAAAAAAAACUUAAUAUUUAUAUAAUUAAAAAAAUCAUAAUUAAUAUGAAUUUAUUUUAUAAUAUGGGAUAUAAUUAUAUUUAGUACAUAUUGUAUUACAAAAACAUAUAUACAUAUAAUAUAUCAAUUGUUAUAUAUACAUAAAAUAUGAAUAUAUAGUAAUUAUUAUACAAUUAUGAUAUUAUAAUGUACUUUCUUUUAUUAACAAUAUGUAACCUAAAUUUUAAACGUUAACUAAUUUAUGGUAAUUAUAAUAUAUAUAAUUAACAUUAUAUAGUUAAUGUAGAUUAUUAAUGAUAUGUAUUCAUAUAUACAACUAUGUUAUUAUAAUGUACAUUCUUUAUAUUAAUGAUAUAUGUAACCUUACACCCUAAACGAGUAACUAAUUUUAUGGUAGAUUAUAAUAUGUACAACUAUUUUUUUUAUCUCGUGUGAUGCUCGAAUUUAGUUGUAUGUAUCAAUUAAAUAUAUUGCAUGUAUUUGUGUAACGUUUUAAAAAUUUUAUGAUCGAGAAAGUAAAAAGAUAAUCACUUGGCUACAUAAUUUUAAUCUAAACUAGAUUUUAUUGAUUAUUUUAUAAAAUAAUCAAUAUUAUUAUGAGGUUAUUUUUGUCAUGUUAUUUGAUGGUAUUCAAACCCAAAACACCAUAAUAUUUAACAUUUUAAUUUUAUGAUUUCAACUGAAGUCUAAUUUGUUUUUUAUAUUAUUUUUAGAAAUAUAUAUAUUUGUUUUAUAUUAUUUUAUGAUAUUAGUUUUGGCCCAUUGGGCACCAUCACUGUCCUCCCCUAAAAAAAACCAACAUAUUUUUUUAUUGUGGGAUCAAAGCAAAUAUCAAAUCCUAACCCUAUGUAAUAACUAUGAAGAAAGAAAGAGAAGAAAAGGGAAAAAAAUUAGAAGAUCAAAGAAAACAAGUAAUGUGGUUUAUUUUAUUUUGAUAGAUAAAAUUAGUAAAGGAAACUAAAAAUUUCUUAUAAUCAUUUUCACCAAAUAUUUAAUAAAAUUUCUAAUAAUUAUUAUUACUAAAUGACUUAAAAAAUAUAAAUAAAAAUUUAUCUAAAAUGUUGUUAUAUCAAAAGCUUAGGACAUCAAAGCUAACAACUUUCAUCAGAUCAUAACAAUUAUAAAAUUUAUCUCAAUCACUCAACCUCAAUUUAUCUCCUUGGAAUGUAAUGUGCAUUACCAUUGACAUUUUCUAAAACAAGCAAAUAUGUUAUUUUAGCUCAUUUUCGUUAGGAAGAAAAUAAUGGUGAAAUGUUUGGGAAAAAUAGAAGGGAAAAUUAUACCAACUGUCACUUAAUUUUGAUGUAGCUGAAAAAAUAGACACUCUGGUUUCAAUUCAGUCACUCAACUUUUGAAAAAUAACAAAAUAGUCCUUUUAACUUUUUCCAUUACAAAUGUAACAAAAAAGUGACGUGGCAUUUAAUGGAAGGUUAGCUAUCAUUUAAACAGCCCCAUAGCCCUAGCAGGGCAGCAGAAAAAAAGAAAAGAAAAGAAAAAGGAGAAAAGAAGAAGAAGAAGAAAUGGACAUACCUUAGCUACGACCGUUUUGUUCCUCUAAGGUAGAGCCACUACUCAGUUUGUUGUUAUCUGUUGAAUCUUUGUUCCACCGUCUGAUCACUACCAUAUUUCGGCCACAGCUUUCCUUCGACCAACCAUGACUCUUAACCACUUGGAUCAUCGAACUGGCUUGAGUUCUCCAACCCGCAAAACCCAAAAUGGGUGAGGGUUUCUUCUCUUUUGAUUCUCUUCUUUGUUAGUUUUUUUUUUUACUUCCCUCUUUUGAUGCAAGCCAAUUUGGGAUUCUUGCUCUUUUUUUGCUGGUUUGAUUUUGGAUGCUUGCUAUUUGGUAUUUUUGUUUUUGCUGAUUUUUGUUGUUUUGUUGUCAAUUUUGAUUUGAAGCUUCAUAACAUCGCCACAAGCAUGAGCUCCAACAAAACCGAUGCUGAUGAAUGGAUUGUGACAAGAUCUCCUUGACGUUAGCCUAAUCAGCUGUUUUGAUGCCAGUCUCAACAUUUUUGCCGUCGAUUUUUAAUUUUCACUACUAUGGAAAAAAAUCAUGCUUCACGAUAGCUAAGAGCUUUUUUAGGUUCUGUCUGCCAAAAUUUUUUCCCCAAUUUAAAUAAAAUUAUUUUAAAAAAUAUUUAAUUGAAGUUCAGGUUAGGCCGGGUUGAAAACAAAAAUAAAUUCAUUGAUACACACAAGAAUGGAUCGUGGUUGUGGGAGUAUAAUAGAAAUAUGGGAUGUUGCUCGCUUCUUGAAGCUGAAUUGUGGCUCAUUUUGGACGUUUUGAAUCUUCUUUGGAUCCAAGGCUUUAGGCGUGUGGAGAUUGAGAGUGACAGUGCUGCUGCUGUCCGCAUCAUAUUGGAUGAGUCUGCUGCUAAGCAGAGUAGAUCGCACAAUUCGAGUUCUUUAGAAUCGGCAAAGGAAGGUCAAGAUACAUCACAUUGUCCGGGAAGCCAAUGCGUUUGGCCUAAGCAGGCUGCUGAAUCCACCACCUGCAGCACUGAGGAGCAUUCUUUGCAAGGACAGUACAGGGACUGUUGGGGAUAGGCUGAAAUCACUACCCUCCUUUAUAUAAACAUUCAACCCUUUAUUACUCAACACACGUAGAUCAAUGCCAUUAAAUCACCUUAAUAUUUAUUUCAAUUCCUUUUAUUCUCAACUCAUGUUUAGUUGUUCGUACAAAUGCCCCUGCUUUAAAAUUAACAAGCAAUCUUGGUUUUCCCCUAAUUUCUUAACAUCACCACCAAAAAGAUCAAGAAGUUGCUAAGAUCAAGAUCAACAAGCUACACAAGUCACAACAAAAUCAACAAUAUUGAAAAUAGACACUAAACCUCAUUCUAGUUUCCACAAUCUUUUAUCACUGUGCAAUGGUUAUGUACAACUGAUUCACAUUGCAAGUGAUGACCUUUACACAAUUUGUGAAACAUUUCAAAGCAAGAUUGAUUUAUUAGAGUAUAUGAUAAGAUCCAUAAUUAAGGUGGCAGUGAUUAUAUCUGCAGAAAAGCCCUUACCAACCAUUUCCGUAAGAAGUUGUGUUGCCUUUGAGGUAUAGCUGCUGCGAAGGAACCCCCGAAUCAUUACGUUAUAACAGCAGCUAUCAGGCAAACAGUCAUUAUCUCCCAUGCUCCCAAACAAGCUGUAUGCUUCAUCUGGCAAUCCCUCUUUACACAGUCCAUUAAUCAUUAUAUGAUAUGUGACAACAUUUGGUUUUAAACCAUUGUCUGAGAGUUGAUGAAAUAAUUCCUUGGCAAAUUCGAUAUGCCCAGCUUUGCACAACCCAUCAAUUAGGAUAUUAUACGGGACAAUAUCAAGUUCCAACCCACUGUUUCGCAUUGCUUGAAAAAGUUUCAAUGCCUCCUCAAUAUGGCCUGUUUUGCCUAAACCAUUCAGCAAAAUCAAACAAGUCACUAAAUCUGGAACUUGUCCAGAAGCAAGCAUCUUUCUAAAAAGUUCACAUGCAGUUGAAACUUUCCCUAACAGAAACAUACUUUGCAAGAGAGUAUUGUAUGUGAAAAUAUUCGGGAUUGGUCCCUUUUGAGAUAUUUCAUGAAAGAGUUCCAUUGCUUCAUCUAACCUCUUACCUUUGCAAUAUCCAUUGAUCAUGGUGCUGUAAGUAACUAUAUCAGGUGCACAACCCUUCUCAAUCAUCAAGUUGAAAACUCUUCUAGCUUUAUCCAUUUCAUUCUGCAAGCAAUGACCAUUAACUAAUGUACUAUACGUAACAACAUUAGGCUCGAUUUCUCGCUUUAUCAUUGCGUCAACAAAAUCCUCAGCUUCAGAUACCAUCCCUUCCUUGCAAUGCGCAUCAACCAAUAUAUUAUACGUGACAACAUCAGGCACAAUGCCUUGCUUUCUCAUUGUGUCAAUGAUCUCUACAGCUUUAAAAAUCAUUCCUUCCUUGCAAAGAGCAUCAAUCAAUAACGUAUAUGAGACAAUACCAAGUGAAAUAUUGUUAUCAACCAUUUCAUUCAAAAGCCUUGUUGCCUCCUCCUGCUGGCCCGAAUUACACAUACCAUGAAUUAAGCAAGUGUAAGUAAAGAUAUUUGGUCUAAUGCCUUUAACCUUCACUUCGGAGAAGAGAUCGAGAGCCUCCUGUAACAAACCGUUCUUACAAAGGCAGUCAAUGACAGUGCUAUAUGCUACAAUAUCGGGUUCAUAACCUCUGCUUUCCAUCAGCCUCAGAAACCUAAGAGCUCUACCAGUAUUACCGGUCUUACACAAUCCCUUAAGCAUUGUACUGUAAACAAUCAAAUUAGGUUGAUACCGUUUUUCAGUCAUUUCAUCGAGAAUACAAACGGCCUCAGAAAUCUUACUUUGAUUACAAAGCCCAUUAAUCAAAGUUGAAAAAGUUACAACACUAGGUUCAACACCUAACUUCAGCAUUUUCCCCAAAACAGAAAACCCAAAAUCAAUUCGACCUAAUUGACAAAAGCAAUUUGUCAAGAUGUUCAUAGAAUAAACAUCAUGGGAAACUCCCAAUAAUUCGAUCUGUCUAUACUUAGAAACAACAAUGGCAUAAUGUUUCAUCUUAACAAUGGCUCCUAAUAAUUUAGUGAAUUCCACAAUUGAAGGCUUUGGGUACUUUUCAAUCAUCUUAUUGAACAAACUCAAAGCAUGAUCAACAUUAUCGAAGCGGUGGUCUCUUUUUCCCUUUCCUCUAACAGGCAUGGACAUGGGUUUCAUACUUAGGCCUUCGAUGUAGGAAGCAAUGGUGUUAGAAGAAGAAGAAAAAGAAUGGAAAUUAGAAAGAUAGCUUCCAGCAUUAACAACCGAACGAAGAAUAAAAGAAGAAGGAAGCUUACCCAUAUCUUGAAAGUAGGCAAAAUGAAAGCAGAAAUGGCAGCGGCAGUAGCAGAAGAAGUAUAAAUUUUGGGUUGCGAAGUGGUGUUUAGGGGGAGGGUUGGGAGCGUAAUUUGGGUUUUUAAUUUUUUUAAUGUGAAUAAUAUUUAAUAAAAAAAUUAAACUUUAUUUUUAAAUGCAAUCUUCAAUUAUUAUUAAUACUUAUAAAUCUUCCUUUUAAAUUUAAUAAAAUUACUAUUUACUUUAUUAAAUUUAAAUUUAAAUUUUUAGACUAAGUUGAAAAAAUAUACAAAGAUUACAAUAUAAUUAAAACUUAAAUCUAUAAAAUACUCUAUUUUUAUAAAUUAUAUUUUGUCGACAUUUUUUUAAUGUCGAUGCAUCUUUUUGUGUGGCAUCUCCUUGCAGACAUGCAUCAGAGCCAAGCAUAAUUCGUUAUGCAAAAAUCGCCCUGCAGUUACAAAAAAAGACAGUCCGGGAUGUGGCUUUGCGGUGCAGAUGGAUGACGGUAAACGAUACUAUUCUCAAAAGUCAAUCUAAAUUCAUCACUUAACUGUUUGCCUGAGUUCUAGAAUAUAUGGACUCAUAGGUGUAGAACAUAAUUCUCGACUGGCUUAAAAUGCUGCUGCAACGAGGCAGGCUGUAAUCAUUGGAGUCAAUUUAUAUUCCAUAAUUCUACUCUGUGUUUUAUAUAGUGUAUAUGUGUUUGUGUACGCGCCUGCAUGCACAUGUGUCAUAAGAGAAUAAUCUGAUUUAUGCUUGAUGCAGAAAAAGGAAAAUAAUAAGAGAAGGAAGAAAGAACACAAUAUAUGCACAUGUGUGGUAAGAGAACAAUCUGACUUAUAUUCUGUUAUGAGCGUUAAUAAACUACCAAUUUUUAAAUAAAGAAAAGAAAGUGAGAAAAGUGAAGAGGAAAAUUUGAUGUUCUUCUAUAGAUACAUUUUUUGUCACAGAAUGCAAGUAACAGAAGAAACGGUCCAGUCUUCUAGCUAUGACUUCUCAUUGUUGUCCAAUUUUCAGAAGAUUGGACGAAAUUGAAAGGAGUGCAUGAUUUCUAUGUGGUUAAUACAAGUGUCUUGACUGAUUCAUUUAUUUGUUCAACCAGUCUGUGCUUCCGAUGUAUUUAGAUAAAAGCUUUCGUUACUCUACAGUGAAAGGGUCUGCAUCAUUAUUUUCAAAUAUUUAUGAUAUUAUUUAAACCCCCGAUUGAGUUACUGUCACGAGUCGAUCGAGCUCCAAUUCGGUUAUAGAAAUUAUUAAAAUGUUCUUCCUUAAUUAAAAUAAAUUGUAUUAUUUGAGGGUAUUUUAAUCUUUUUAUUUAAAAAUAAUAAUAAGUUUACAUGUGGUGGGAUUUUAAUAUUAUAUUUGUAUUUUAAUUGUAUUAUGCUUACUUUAUUGCUUCAAUGAAUUGUAUAUCUGCACUUAAAAUAAACCCUUGACUAGGGAAAUAUAAAAAAUUUGCAUGUGGCAGGAUUUAAACUCGUGUUAAUAUUCUAGCUUAAUAAUUGAGUAUUAUUAUAUAUUUAAUUUGAAUUAUUUAUAAACAUUACAAUAUAUGUAAAAACAAUUUAAAAUAUAAAUUUAUUAAUAUAUGUAAAAACAGCUUUUCAGGAAAAUAUUUUCAAGAAAUCUGCCAAACAAUAAAAAAUAUUUUACACAGAUUCAUACAAACACCAGAAAAGUAAAUUAUUUCCAGAAAAGUAAAUUAUUUUCUAGAAAUCAUUUUCCAGAAAAUAUUUUACUGGCAAAUAAACGGAGCCUUAGUUUUUGGUUGAGAUUCCAUUACAAUUGUUGUCUCAAGUUCAAAGAUGCUUCCACUAAAAUGGUGGCAACGAUGUAAACAUAGACUUCACGCAUCAAGGUUCUGGUCACCUUGAUGCUCGAGUGUGCCGAUGUAACUUGCUGAAGUCUAUUCUUGCUCCCAAUUAUCAACAAAGAAGCUUGAUUCAAGUAGGGGUGUUCAUUCGGUUAACCGACCCGAAAUAGCAUUAAUCGAAUUAAUUGACCCUUCAAAAUUUUUAACCGUUAACCGAACCGAAUUUUUUCAAAAAAUUAACCGACUCAAAAUUUUGCUGGUUAAUUCGGUCGGUUAACCGAAAAUUAUAUAUAUUUUAUUUUUGGAUAUUUUUGCAACAGUUGAGGAUAUUUUUAUUCAAGAACUUUCGAGAAUUAGGUACACAACUUGUUUUACUGAAUCAUUUAUUAUUUCAACCAAAUAAAAGUGUUGGCAUCAACAAAGAAGUGUAUCUCAUUUACAAGAAAGGUGUAGCAAUCCGGUUUUAGCUAAAUCGAAACAAUAGUUUCGGAACCACAAAUCUGAUGUCAGAAAAUUAUUUUAAUAUUAUUUUAUGUGUCUAAAGCAUGUUAUUUGAUAUUAGUGCAAAUUUAAUGAGCCAAUUUUAUCAUUUGGAUGUCUAAUUUGAUAAAAGGACUUAAUCGCGUAAAAUGCAAAAGUUACAUUCUACUUGUUAAAAGUGCUUAAUUGCUAUGGUAGAUUAAAUUAAAAGUCCUUAUGAUGAUAUUAAAUCAUUCAUAAUGUAAGUGGACACCUAUGUGCAUGGUUAGGUGAAUUAUAAUGGUUAAAAUUCAAGGUUAUUAUAGUAAUUGGAUAAAUAUAUGUUAGUAAAUUAAUGAAAGAAAAGUAUCAUCUUUCUUCCUCAUUGUUUUGACCGAAAAUAAGAAGAAGAAAGACUCCAUUGCUGCAUUUUGAAGGUUCGGCCAUUGUCUUACUUGCAUGUAAGUGUUUCCUUGCUUGGUUUUUUAUGAUUUAUAUGUUUUCGACAUCAUUAUAACUUAAUCUAGCUAGCCCAAGGACUAAUUUGAGAAAUUGUUAAAAGUAUAGGGUUUUUAAAUUGAUAAAUAAGCAUAUGUUUUGAUGUCUAAUGGUAGAAAAUGCAUGGUUGUUGUUAGAUAAAAACAUUUGUAAAGGGAUUUUUGUGAAAAAUGUCAAAAAGGGAUUAAAUUGUGAAAAAUGCAAACUGAGUGGUUGAAAUAUGUAAUAAAUGGAAGUUUUGGGCUGCUAGGGACCUAUAGAAAAUUCGGUCAAGCUUGGGUUUAAUGAAAAUUUGUGAAUUUUGUGUAUUUUUAAAAUAGGGACUAAAUUGAAUAAAUGUGAAAGUUUAGGGGCUAAUGUGUAAAACUGACCAAAUAUGUGUUUAAGGAUUCAAUUGAAUGAAUGAAUGUUUGAAUGAGUUAAUUUUUAAUACAUAUAGAUCAAGAAAGAAAGAAUUCGAAUUUAGAUCGGGGGAAAAGCAAUGUUAUCGAGUAAUCGAUCCGAUUCAUUAAUUUCGAAUACGAGGUAAGUUCGUAUGUGGUAAUUUCAUUAUAAAUGCAUGUUAAAUGCUUUGAUAUUGCAUAAACUGUGAUUAUGAGAUUACGGAUAUUGUUUGAAUUGUGAAUACGAUUCUACGGAUGUGUUCGACGAUGAAAUCGACAAGUGAAAUUUCCCAAUUGAACCUUAAGAAUAGUUUAGGAUGCUAGUGACAUGUUAUUAGGCUAUCGUAUUGGCUUCAAUCUAUGAUAUUGGCACUUCGGGUGCGAAUAAUACAUUGAUUUGGCUACGGGCCAUGGUAUAGGUAUUCAGAGAGGAGUUACCUUGAUUUGUCUACGAGGCAUAGUAUAGGUACUCCGGGAUAAGUUACCUUGAUUUGGCUAUGGGCCAUGGUAUAGGUACUUAUCGAUUGAGAUCGUUGAGUAUCCAACUUCUAUUCCAAAUAGUUCAAUGGGUAAAAGAAUGACGUGGUUGGGAAAGAGGUUAGUAUGAUGUGAUACAAGUAUGUACGGAACCUAUUCUAGUAUUACAUUGAGAAAGUUCAAUGAGAUGACAUUUAAUCAUGUUUUGAGACAUAAGAAAGGUUUGUGUUAAUGUGAUGUUGAUUUGGUAAUGUGUAAAUGGUUGAAUUACAUUUAUUUGAUGAAUUGAGUUACUCACUUACGAGCUUACUAAGCUAUGAAGCUUAUUUUGUGUUAUUUUUCUAUGUUGUAUAGUGAAUUGAAGCUGGCUCGGAUGUGGGAGUCGUCGGGAAAAUCAUCGCACUAUCAAACACCUAAGUUGGUACUUUUAAGUUGUGUAUAUAUGGUAUAUGGCAUGUAUAAGCUAGUUAUGGUAUGUUGGUUGUGAAUAUAGCCAUGAGAAUUGGCUUGUAAAUGUAUGUGUUUGUUUUGUAUGUGUAGCCAUGAGUGAUGGCUUGUUUUGGUAUGUUUGGUAUAAAUGUGGCUAUGUUUUCAUAAUUGCUCAAAUGGUUAUAUUUUGAGUUUGGUAAAUGAUCUAUAUUGAAUGAUUAAAGUUGAAUAGAUGAUAUAUGUUUGGAAUGGAUUGGUUUAGUUGGAUGAAUUAAACAUGUGAAUUAUGCUUAGUAAAGCAAGUUAAGUUGAUUAGUAUUUGAAUAGGUAAAUGGUAUUGAAUGAGUAUCAAAAUGGUUGAAAUAGAUUUGGUAUGGUUGUGUAUUGGUUGAUGACAAUUGGCUACAUAUUUUUGUUUCAAAAUGGUACCAAUUGAGUUUACUUAGGUGUGUGCAAAAAGGGUGGCAAAUUGGCUUGCAAAUGGCCUAUUUUUGUCCACACGGGCAGAGACACGGGCGUGUAUCUCAGCCGUGUGCCCCUAGUGUUGAAAUUAAUUUAAAGUUUAUAUGCUCCACACAGUCUCACACACUGGCCUAUGACUAGCCAUGUAGUGCAAGUCAGUAUACCCCUUAAAUGGCACACGGCUUAACACACGGGCAUGUGACUUGGCCGUGUUACAUAAGUUAGUAUACCCUGAAGGAUUGGCACGGCCUAGUGUCACGAACUUAAAUUUUUCCCACUCGAUUCGUGCGGCCUUAGGCAGUUUCUUUGCCCCAAAAAUGCCUAAGUCAGCCUAACUUGCAACGAUAAAGGAUUCAAUAGAAUUCCUGCCCCAAAAACGCCUAAGUCAGCCUAACUUGCAACGACAAAGGAUUCAAUAGAAUUCCCUCAAGGCUUCCGCGAAGAACAGUAGAAGAACGAAGUAAGAGCGAACGUUGAAAGAUGAACAAAAGCCUCAGAAAAGUAAGAACACUUGGGAGAAAAGUUUGAGUGAAUACUCUCAAGAUUUUUAUUGAUAACUGAAUAAAUUACAAUGAGCACAGAGGUCACUAUUUAUAGUUGAGCCUCCCUAAAAUCAAUGGUGUAGAUUAAAGUACAUCAAUGGCUAUAAUAAAAAACUGUAUACAAUUAGAACUCUACAUAAUCUUAUCUUCCAUAUUUAUCGGGCUCUGGAGAUGGGAUUUUAAUCUCUCCACGCAACGGACCAGUUUGAUUGGGCCAAAUGACCUCUCUCAAAUACAAUGGAUCGCACAAGUUUGUCAUGGUUGCGUGCUCCCAUACGCAACCCAUGACAUUCUCCCCCACUUGUUCUAGUGAUGCCCUCGUCGCAUCCUCUUUAUGAAACUGGUCAAUCUUUCCUUGAAACUACCACAAUGCCUCGGCAAGUUCCCAACUUGCUUCGCUAUCAGGAAGUCUCUUCUAUCGAACUAAGUAUUCAUGCCGUGGUCGGUAGUACUUUUGUCCAAUUAUCUGAUCUGCCUCAAUAUUUUUGACUUCACGAUCGUACGACACCUUUACCCCCAUCGGUGCUCGUUCGGACUUACCUCGAUUUGGAUCCUCUUAAUCCCCAUGAAAUGGCUUAAGCAUGCUUACAUAGAAUACUGGGUGGACUUUGAGUUUUGCUGGCAACUCCAGCUUGUAGGCCACCUUGCCUACUCUCUUCACAACUUUAAACGGCCCCUCAUACCUUCGCACAAGCCUCUUAUGCAAGCCAGUAUAUCGUAAAAUCAAGUGUAGUUUAGCAAGGACUGAGUCCCCCACUUGAAAUUGCAUAUCCCUUCGUUUCUGAUCGGCCCACUUCUUGUUGCGCUAACUUGCCUUGUGUAAACAAGCUCUAGCCAGGUCAUUUUUCUCUUGCCAAUCUUUUGCGAAUCGAUAGGCUUCCGGGUUUGGUCCUGUAUAAUGGGUCACAACAGCACUGGGUGUGAGUGGCUGUUGACCCGUCACUAUUUCAAAUGGACUUAGAUUUGUGCCCCCACUUCGCUACAAGUUGUAUGAAAAUUGGGUCACAUCCAACAACUUUGGCCAAUCCCUUUGUGUGGCACUCACGUAGUGUCGAAGAUAUGUGUCUAACAAUGCAUUUACUCGUUCAGUUUGCCCAUCGGUUUGUGGAUGCAUGCUCAUGGAGAAGUUCAAAUCUGAGCCCAUUAACUUGAACAAUUCUGUCUAGAACCGGCCCGUAAAUCACCCAUCUUGAUCACUGAUAAUAGACAGUGGCUCUCCAUAAUAUUUCACCACGUGUCUAAGGAAUAACUAAGCUGCUUCCUCAGUAGGGCUCUCCUUGGUUGUCAGAAUAAAUGUCGCAUACUUUGAAAACCUGUCCACCACGACAAGAAUGCUCGCAAACCCAUCAGACUUAGGCAAACCAAUAAUAAAAUACAUGGAUAAACUCUCCCAUAGCCUUUCCGGAAUUGGCAAGGGUUGAAGCAAGCGGCUGGAGUCUUUAGCUCAACCUUGUCUUGUUGGCACACUAGACAAGUUUUCACAUAGGUUUCCAUAUCAGCACCCAUGUGGGGCCAGUAAUAGCGAUCCUCUAAAAGGGCCAAAGUGCGAUGCAUCCCUAGAUGGCCCGCCCAUUUCGAGUCAUGACACUCCUUCAUGACUUCCUUACGUAGUUUCCCAUAGUGGGGCACAUAGAGGCGGUGUCCAUGAGUAUAUAACAGCUCCCCAUCAAGCCAAAAUCUUCUUGUUUUUCCCUCCUUGGCAAGCUCAAUCAAAUUUUUGGAUGUGAGAUCAUGGGACAAUCCCUCUCGAAUGCGUUCCAAUAAAGAACCAUCAGGUUGGCUAAUUGCUGCGAAUUCCAUAUUUCGACUGAGUGCAUCAGCCACAAUGUUGGCACUUCCUGGUUUGCACAACUUUUUCUAGGUUAGAAAAUAACUAUUGGCAAUAUUGUUGGUGAGGACCACGAACCUGGAACCCAAUAGAUAAUGUCUCCAAGUGUGUAAGUAAUGUACUACCGCAGUUAUCUCCUUCUCUUGGACCGUAUAUCUACGCUCCAUCUCAUUAAGCUUUCGACUCUCGAAAGUAAUUGGGUGCCCAUCUUACAUUAGUACUCCCUCAAUAGUAUAAUCUGAUGCAUCCGUGCGUACCUCGUAGGGCUUCGAAAAAUCUGGCAAGGCAAGUACGGGUUCCCUCAUCAUUUAUUGCUUCAAUUGAUUAAAGGCCUUCUGACAUUCCAGAUUCCAAUCCCAUACCUUCCCCUUUUUCAACAUAUCCGUCAAGGGUGUGGUAAUUUUAGAGUAGCUUUCGACAAAGCGUCGAUAGUAAUUUGCCAACCCAAGAAAAGAUCUCAACUCCGUUACCUUGGUUGGAGGCUCCCACUCAGAAAUGGCUCGAACCUUACUCUUAUCCAUUUGGAUCUUACCACCUCCUACAAUAUGGCCUAGGAAUGACACUUCUUGUUGGGAAAAUGAGCACUUCUCCUCCUUGACGAACAACUCAUUUUCCCUCAAAGUUUGGAACACCUCUCUCAAGUGUCCCAUGUGUUCCUCAAGCGACUUGUUAUACACCACCAUAUCAUCAAGGUAUAGAACCACAAAACAAUCAAGAAAAGGUUCAAGUACCCUAUUCAUUAGGGUGCAGAAUGUAGCUGGGGCAUUCGUAAGUCCGAAAGGCAUCACAAGGAACUCAUACGAACCGUACUGUGCCACACAAGCUGUCUAUGGCUCAUCCCCCUCGGCUAUCCGAACUUGAUGGUAUCCCGAUCUCAGAUCUAACUUGGUAAACCAUCUUGCGCUACCAAGCUGAUCGAACAAAUCUGCAAUAAGAGGAAUAGGGUACCUAUUGUUCACAGUGAUCUUGUUUAGAGCUCGAUAAUCGAUGCACAUUCUCAAGGACCCAUCAUGUUUCUUUUGAAAUAACACUGGCACACCGUAUGGGGAUUUAAAUGGUCUAAUGAAUCCCGCAUCCAAAAGUUCCUUCAAUUGUUUUCGCAACUCUUCUAAUUCUGGUGGAGACAUACGAUAGGGAGCCCUUGUUGGCGGCACCACAUUGGACACUAACUCAAUUUUAUGGUCCACCUCCCUCUUGGGUGGUAAACUUUUAGGCAACUGCGCAAGCAUUACAUCUCUAAAUGAUUGUAACAAUUGACCCACUUCUUUCGGGGUCUCACCUGCAGACUCAGCGGUCUCUUCAAUCUUCAAGGUGGCUAAGUAUGAGGUUUCAUUUUUACAUACUCCUUUAGCAAACUGAAUUGCUGACAGUGUUUUUCCCUCAAAGCUUCUUUUCCUUGUUACUUUCACCAUGCAUUGAUGUUGCGCGUCCGAAAUCACCAUGUAAUUGCUCGAAGGGGCAAUAAGAACAUUAACCUGAUUAAGGAAACUUAGUCCAACCACAAAAUCAUAAUCAUUAAGUGGUAUUACCUUAAUGGAUACCCUUCCAGACCAUUCGCCAAGCUGAAGAUCCACUCCCUUUGCAACCCCCUUGAUUGGAACAUUUUCUGAGUUCACUGUUUUCAUUCGACCCACUUCAUUAUCUAUCUUAAGGCCCAGUUUACAAGCAGCCUCCUCAGACAUGAACAAAUCAGAAGCUCCUGUGUCAACGAGCGCAUUCAAUUUUCUGCCAACCACAAUGACGUCUACAAACAUCAAACCAUGGCUCAUUCUAUCUUCGACACCCCCUAGUAUCGAACCAAGAUUGUUGUCCUCCACAUCAGACUCCCCCUUUGCUUCCAUAGUCGUGAGAGCGUCCUUCUUUGGGCAGUCCUUGAUCAUAUAUGGACCAUAACAGUGAAAGUAACUUAUAGGCCCACUCUUUCUCUUGUCCCAAGGCUUCUUACCAUUGCCGUUCCUAGUGGGCCUUUCUUUAUCUCCAUCACUAUUACCCUUUUGAUUAAAUCUAGGCUUGGAAGAAUUGGCAUCGUCUUUCUUCCUACCAAAUUCAGCAAGCAAUUCUGCUACAGACAUAGCCUUGGUGAGUUCUUGAACUCCUCAGCAUUGUAACUCUUGCUUCGCCCACGGUUUUAAUCCGUCCAUGAAGGAAAAGAAUGCCUCUUUCUCCCCCAUAUCUGAUAUUUGGAGCAUAAGUUCGCUAAACUCCUAUACAUACUCCAUCACAGUGCCUUGUUGUGCAAACCAACACAACUUUGCCCGAGCCUCAUCCUCGACAUACUCUGGGUAAAACUGUGCUUUGAACUCACAUUGAAACUCCUCCCAAGUUUCAAUUUCGAUCUUACCACGUCUCACAUUAGUGGACCUACGACGUCACCAUAACAAAGCAACGUCAGAUAAAUACAUCGCAACAAUAGUUACCUUAGUGACAUCCUCCGUGAUGCCUUUGGCACAGAAGUAUUGCUCCAUUCCCCACAGAAAGUUAUCCACAUCUCUUACAGACCUUGUUCCCUUAAACUCCUUGGGCUUGGGAACAUCAAUAUUGGGCUUGGGUGCGAUAGCAGCUAACCCACCAUUGCCUAAAGCAGCCUUGUAGAUUGUGAGUUCACCCUUGAGCUCCGCAAUCUCCCCUUUCAAGGCCGUCACCCCAAUAGCAUCAUCUCUACUAGUCAACUGUUCCACAUUAUCCAACACAUAUGCUUUGAGUUGCUUCUGCAUGGACUGCAAUCCAUCAUGUAGCCUAUCAUCGACAUUAUCAGUCCUCUCCUUGAUAUCCCCCACGGAAUUCUCGAGAGUGACGACACGAUCCUCUAAAGCUGACAAUAUGUCCCUCGAGCAGCUAGCUUUCCUAGCCCUCCUAUGGGUCUCCAUUCCCUCAAUGUUCCCAGUAACUUCUUUCGACAUCUUUCAACGGUGGCUUUGAACCUUGGCUCGGAUACCAACUAUCACAGACUUAGAUUUUUCCCACUCGAUCUGUGCGACCUUAGGCAGUUUCUUUGCCCCAAAAAUGCCUAAGUCAGCCUAACUUGCAACGAUAAAGGAUUCAAUAGAAUUCCUGCCCCAAAAAGGCCUAAGUCAGCCUAACUUGCAACGACAAAGGAUUCAAUAGAAUUCUCUCAAGGCUUCCGCAAAGAACAGUAGAAGAACGAAGUAAGAAUGAACGUUGAAAGAUGAACAAAAGCCACAAAAAAGUAAGAACAAUUGGGAGAAAAGUUUGAGUAAAUACUCACAAGAUUCUUAUUGAUAACUGAAUAAAUUACAAUGAGCACAGAGGUCUCUAUUUAUAGUUGAGCCUCCCUAAAAUCAACGGUGUAGAUUAAAGUACAUCACUGGUUAUAAUAAAAACCUGUAUACAAUUAGAACUCUAAGAUUACACAAUAAAGUUGUAUAAAAUUAGAAAUCUACAUAAUCUUAUCUUCCAUAUUUAUCGGACUCUGGAGAUGGGCUUUUAAUCUCUCCACGCAACGGACCAGUUUGAUUGGGCCAAAUGACCUCCCUCAAAUACGAUGGAUCGCAUAAGUUUGUCAUGGUUGCGUGCUCCCAUGCGCAACCCAUGACACUAGUACACGGCUUAGCACACGGGCGUGCGUGGCCACUUCGAAGGACACACGGGCUAGACACACGGGCUUGUGGUCGGCCGUGUGACCCAAGUCAGUAUGUAUGCCCUAUUUUUAUAUGGCCUGAUACACGGACAUGUCUGGAGCUGUGUGAGGCACACGGCCUGUUCAAAUGGGCGUGUGACCCUUGAAUGAUUGAAAAAUUUCUAAAUUUCCCAAGAAUUUUGUAUGUUAUCGGUUUAGUCUCGGACCACUUUUAAAGUAUGUUUAAGGCCUCGUAGGCCCUUAUAAGGGACAAUGUGUUCAUAUUGAAUGGUAGAAUACAAAUGUAUAAAUGUAUGAAUUUUGUUUAAUAAAUGAUGUGUAUUGAUCGGUAAUACCUCGUAACCCUAUUAUGACAGUGAAUACAGGUGAGGGGUGUUACACAAGGAGAGAUUUGUUGAGACUUAAAAAGAAUUGAAGAAACUGAUACUGGUUUAGUUCAUGGAACAAUUAUCAAUAUGAUGAGCUUAAUCAAUAUACCAUUAACAAGAGAGAAAGAAUAAAAUUACUAAAUAAAACUUACCUCAAAUCUCAAAAUGUUUAGCUAACAAUGGCUUCAAAUGAAAACUAUGCCCCUUCAGGUAUUAGCAAAGCGGCAGUAGGGAGGAUUUGGCAAUCAUAUAGAAGGUUCUAGGUUUUUUUUAGGUUAGAAUUAGAAGUUUAAAUUAGGGAUUUUGAAGUUUAAGUUUUUUUUUUGUCGUCUGUUACUUUAGACACUUUUACUUUUAGUUUUAGAAUUUUGUUUUUAUUUAUUAAAUUAUUUGUAAUUUUUAUGAUUGGGUUAGAUAAUUGGGUUGGCUUGGGUUAGGCUAGGUUGGGUACUUGAGUUUAUAUAUAUUAAAUUGAGUUUAUGUUGGAUUGAGUUUGGGUGAAUAGUUGGUCUAUUUAUAUAUUAUAAUUUUAUUUAUUAAUUUUUUAGAUUAAAUCGAAAAAAUUCGGUUAACCGACUGGUUUCGAACCGAAUUAAUGGUUAAUUGAAAACUUAAAAAAUUAUUAACCGACACCGAUCGAAUUAAUUCGAUUUUAUCCGAAUUUUGCACACCCCUAGAUUCAAGUAAUGGUGGUUUGUUUUUCUCUUAAUAUAGUGACAAGUGUUGCUAGCCUUUCUAGACUCCUCUAUGACCUUGAUGGCUUCCAUAUUGUAUGAGACAUUUAAUUCAUAUAUUUGUAUUUUUUACUAAAUAUAAAUAGUAAGAAAAAUGAGAAAAUAAUUUCAAAACAUUAAAUAGGUCAACUAACAUCUAAUACGGCUUUGAAUGUCAUACAUUUCCACGAGCAUUCAGUUUCAACUUUGAAAAUAUAAAGCAAUAAAUGGUUGCCUGUUUAUGACUAAUGAGGUAGUUGAAUCGCAUGCAUGCACUUACUAUAUCAUAUAUAUGCACACACAUACAGAGAUGUGUAUGGAUUUUUAUUUUUAUUUUACUUUUUAUAUGUUAUAUUAAAGAGUAAAUUGAUUCUUUCAAUUCAAAUUUUCAUUUACUUUUAUACAAAAUUUACAUUUUGAGUAAUUGAAUUGUGACUUUAGGGUUGCAUGAUAGCAUAGUAAUUUACUUGAGAUAUCAAAACAUGUUAAUGUAAGUUAUAUGACAUUUUAAAAUAGGGAGAAUAGCAUGAAAUCUCGAUUUGGUAUGUGUAUGAGGAUGUCAGAGUGUCCAACACAAGUACUGAAAUUUUCCUACAAAUUUUCAAGUCCAUAUCGCGAUACCGAUAUUGGGUCGAUGUUGCAACUUGGGAAUCAUGAGGUUGUGACAUAGUGAUCAGAGAGUUUUGGGCAUAUUUUGAAACUUUUGCAAAUAAGUUCUGAUUUUUACACAAUAAAAUUGGGAGCCUUAAACAACACGAAAUGCUUUGAAAAUUUACAUGACUUGGUUUUGUAUAUUGAAUUUUAAUAUGGUAACUUCAAUUUCUUAAAAUGGUUUUACUGAAUAUUUUGAAUAAAAUAAAAUAAAAUUAAAAAUGAAAUAGAAAGAGAGGAAAAUUUUUUGGGAAAAGAAAAAUAAAAAUAAAAAUUUAAUAAAAUAUCACUAAUUUCCCCCAACUCCCCACUAACCCAUUAAUCAACCUAAUCCCACCCAAUCCGACACUUCAAUCCGCAUCCAACUACCUCAGAAUUUCAACUCCACCAAACCUCUAUUAGACAACCGCAACAAAAAUUAUCAUUCACACUCAUACAAAGAUUUGAGCACGAGGCCUUAGGGCAAGUUAACAUCUUACCACUCAAACCGAUAAGCUCAUUCUAAUAUGACCUGGCUAGCAAUAGAAUAUAAGUCAAACCGCCGAGAAAUAGGCUAUGAUCACAAAUAGCAAAAAUUUUCAAAAAUAGGACUUGAACCCAAGAUAUCAAACACACAAUCAAAAAAUUUAGCCACUGAAACAAAUACAUAUUUAUGAUAAGAUUUAUAAAAAUAAAAUUAAAAAAUCAAGGCAACAUGAAAUGUUGCAUUAAUGUAAAUCAUAAGACUGCUAUUUGCUCUAAUUUAGAUACAUAUGAUUUAUAAAUAUUAUAUUUUAAGAUCAUAGUAGAGAACAAUAGUGCCGACAAUAAUGGAAGACAGCAAAGGAAAAAAGUAAUAAUAAGAAAAGAUGGAAUUUACUUUACCUAUGUAGAACUUAAAAACGAAAGUUGUCCCGAACACCAUAAAAAUUAACUCAUAAUAUUGUUUGUUUUCUUUGAUUAUUGUUCCCAUAACUGCUACUGUUACUCGGUGAUAAAAAUGAAUUUAUGAGAAAUUUAAAAAGGUUUCAAUACGUGUAUCGAUGCUACUAUUUUAAAGUUUUAUUCACCCCCACUUACUUAUUGCUGUGCAAAAGAGUUAUUCAUAAAUUGACCUUGAAGAUACAAUGAAAUCUAAUGAUUGUCAACGUUUUGCACUGAUAAAAACAAUUCACUGAACAUUGAAUGGAGCAUAGCAAGAAUACCAAUUUCUAUAAAAAACUUCUACAAUAAUUUUUCAUAAAACAAUCUAGGAAUAUUAGAAGAUGGAGAAUAGAAUUCGAUACCAAAAUAAAAAGAGAACAAAACCAAAAAAAAAAGAGUUAGAUCAUUACAUAAUUCCUCAAUAUUUCUCGAAACCGAAUCAUUACUAUUAUCAAGUUGAGUUUCAUGGUCUUAAACGACAUCUAGAGUUGAUAUUAUAGAGGCUUAUAAAAUUGACCCUAAUGCCAUUUUUUUUUAUUUAGAAGAAUACAAAAUCUACAACAAUUAUUUUUUCAAACUCAAUUCAAAAUUUCAUUACCUAUAAAUUAUUUUUCAAAACCCAAAUUAUAAAAAUAAAUUAUAUUUGGAAUUUUAUCUUUUCUUACAAUGUCAAGAAACAUAGAUCAAAGUUAUGUCAAGAACUAGAAAGGUAAAAAACAGAGAUCAAAUAAGUUUGCUUAAUGUUUUUCUUUUCUAUGUUUUUUUUAAAGAAUAUGUAUUGAAUAUUUUGAUAUAGAUAAUAAAGAGAAAUUUAGGAGGGUUUAAAAUUAAUUACCCCUAAUUUUCUCUCACUUUAUUUAUUUUUAAAUUUUUAUCUAUUUUUAGUUAAUUUUUAAUUUUAUAAAAUUUUAAAAAUAAUUUUAAUUUUUUACCAAUUUAUAUAUUAUCAAGAUCAGAUUGACAGAGAGUAUAUAAGUUGGGGACUAAUGUAACCAACUCAUUUUCUCAACUGUACACCAAACAACUCAAGUCCACACUUUUUGAGUUGAAAUUGAAUUAACUUUAAAAGAUAAUUGUAACUAUCUCAUAUUCUGGAGAGAUAAUGAAUACCGUAUUGUAAGGUUUUAGCGUAGGUUCAUUUCUCAUGUUUCUUGAUUGAAAUGAUAACUAGUCUAAAGCUAAAUGGAGAUUAGUUGAACAUGAAAUUAAUCAUCCUUGAUUUGAUUAUGAGAGUGAAUUUUAAUGAAAAAUAAUAGGUGAAGAAAAGAGAGAACUAAAAGGGAAAUUGCACCAAAAUAUAAAAAGAGAAAAACAAUGGCAGAUUGCUUCCAAUGCAGUAGACACAAGAAUGUGCUAAAUUGUCUUUUUAAAUUCAAAGUGUGUAUUCAUGCCACAAUUAAAAACUUUUAUAUACCAAUCUCAAAGAACCAAUUUCACAUGAUUUUACUCCUAGAAUCAUGCUUAACAAGCAACCACUAAAUCAACACUUUCUAAAUAUAGAAUUUGUCAAAGUAAAAAAUUUAAUAUUUUUUAUCAGCCCAAAAAUAAUUUUGCAACUUUCAAAUCAACCCCCAACUUGUUUUUUUCUAAUUUAGCUCGAUUUGUUUGUUUUUGAACUUCGGCACUCCAAUUGUGUCUAUGAUAAAAUUCAGGCAAUAAAUCACAAGUUUAGUAGAAUUCUAUUAAAAAGUUGACCAAAAUUGGGUAUAUUAAAUAUAUAAAAUUAACUUGCUAUCAGAUUUGGAACUAAUUAAUAAUAACAUAUGAAAUAUGUACUAUAUUAAAAUAAAAAUUAGAAUAAAUUGUGAGUAAAAUGAAAUCUAAACAAAAAAAUACAUCAGAUUAAAAAUGCUAAAUAAAUACAAUUGUUUAUCAUUGUUUUGUCUUCAAUUCUGAGUUGGUGUCGUGUUCAUUUGUGACACUAAAUCAACAACAUUUUUUAUAUACACAAAUAAAUAAAAAUUUAGAACAUAGAUAUCAUUAUUAAAGUUUCAAGUGAAAAGUAAAAAUUGCUUUAGGUUUUAUGUGCAUGGUGACAUUAGUUCAAAUCUCAUUAUGGAUAAUUUUUUAUUGAUUUAUAAAAGUAUGAAAAGACGAAAUCAUUCUCGUAAUCAUGUAUUUUACUUUGCAAAUAAAAUGGUUUUUUGAUAACUUUCUUAUUGAGUUGUGACUUGAUUGAUGGUGACACCAACAUAAAAGGCUUAAUACAUAAUAUUUAUAAAAAAUAUUUUAAACUAAAAAAUUUAAAAGAAUUUAGGGUAAAUUAAACCAUUAGUGAUUCAAUUAUGGGUAAGUUUUUAUUUUUAUCACUUAACUAAAAAAAAUUACAAUUUCAUCACUAAUGUUUUUGAAUUUCUUUUUUUGUCACCCAACUAUUAAGUGGAAUUUGUUUCAAUUGGUAUAAUAAUAAUUAUAGCUCUCAAUUUUUAUAAUUUCUAUCAAUUUGACCUUGAUUUUGUUUAAAGAUUAUAAAAAAACUCAAAAUUAUUUAUAAAAUAGAAAAAUGUGUAUAAAAAUUGUAGAAAAAUAAAAUCUUGAAUAACUAAAUUGUAUGAAAAAUAAAGAAAAUUAUCAUUCAAUGGAACCCAUUAACAAUUUAAAAACAAACUAAACCAAAACAAGUUAAAUCAUUACAUGCUUUCUUAAUGUUUCUCGAAACUAAAAUAGUAAUAUUAUCAAGUUGAGUAUCAUGCCUUUGAAGAACAUCUAGAACUCAUAUUACACAGGCUUUUAAAAUUUAACCAGAUGCCAUUUUUUAGUAGAAAGAAUACAAAAUAUACCAAAAUAUUAUCUUUUUCAAACUCAAUUCAAAAUUUCAUUACAUUUCAAAAACUAAAUUGUAAAAAUAAAUUUUAUAUAAAAUUUUAUCUUUUCUUAUAAUGUAAAAGCUAUGUAUCUUUUGAAGAAUGGAUAUUAGAUAUUUCGAUAUAGAUGAUAAAUAAUUAUAAUGUCAAGAAAUAGAAGAGGUAAAAAAACAGAAAGCAAAUGAUCUUGCUUAAUGUGUUUUUUUUUUCUAUAUUUCUUUUGAAGAGUGGAUAUUAGAUAUUUCGAUAGAGAUAAUAAAAAGAAAUAUUAGAGGGUUUAAACAUAAUUAUUUAUUUUUGAAAUAUUUAUCUACUGUUAUUUAAUUUUUAAUUUUAUAAUAUUUUAAAAUUUUAAAACAAUUUUAAAUUUGGGUAUAAUGAUAAUUUGAAUUUCGACUAUUUCUAAAAAUGGUAAACACCCAAUCAAAACCACAAUUUGGAUUUAAAAAUGUAACUUAUGAAGGAAUUUAUAUGAAAAACUAAAUAUUUAUUUUAACUUGAAUAGAUUUAUUCACAUUAUUUACGUCUUACAAACAUCGUAUGUAAGAAAAACUAUAUUUCUUUUAUAGGAUGCCGACUAGGAUAUUUAAUUUCAAGUUGUAACGUAUAAUUAGGCAUUCUUAUACUAUACUUGCCUAUUAUUACGAUGCUGCUACUGAUGAUGUUGCUGCUACAAUUGGGCACCAAGAUGACUGCAAAACUUGUUAGUAAUGUCCAGAAUGAAUGGAAAGGACCAUGGCAGAUUAGUGAAUUAUUACAGAUUUAAAGAAGAAUCAAAUUUUAAAUCAGCCGAUAGAAGGAGAAUAUUGAAUAUUUCCAAAAGUUUUGGCCCAUUGGGCACCAUUAUUGUCCUCCCCUAAAAAAACGAAGAUAUUUUUUUUUUGUUAGAUCAAAACCAAUAUCAAAUCCUAACCCUAUGUAAUAACUAUGAAGAAAGAAAGAGAAGAAAAGGGGAAAAAAUUAGAAGAUUAAAGAAAAGAAGUAAUGUGGUUUAUUUUAUUUUGAUAGAUAAAAUUUGUAAAGGAAACUAAAAAUUUCUAAUAAUCCUUUUAUUCUCAACUCAUGUUUAGUUGUUCGUACAAAUGCCCCUGCUUUAAAAUUCACAAACAAUAUUGGUUUUCCCCUAAUUUCUUAACAUCACCAACAAAAAGAUCAAGAUCAACAAGCUACACAAGUCAGAACAAAAUCAACAAUCUUGAAAAUAGACCCUAAACCUCAUUCUAGUUUCCGCAAUCUUUUAUCAGUGCGCAAUGGUUACGUACAACUGAUUCACAUUGCAAGUGAUGAUCUUUACACAAUUUGUGAAACAUUUCAGAGCAAGAUUGAUUUAUUAGAGUAUAUGAUAAGAUCCAUAAAUAAGGUGGCAGUGAAUAUAUCAGCAGAAAAGCCCUUAGCAACCAUUUCCGUAAGAAGUUGUGUUGCCUUUGAGGUAUAGCUGUUGCGAAGGAACCCCCGAAUCAUUACAUUAUAACAGCAGCUAUCAGGCAAACGGUCAUUACCUCCCAUGCUCCCUAACAACCUGUAUGCUUCAUCUGGCAAUCCCUCUUUACACAGUCCAUUAAUCAUUAUACAAUAUGUGUAAACAUCAGGUUUUAAACCAUUGUCUGAGAGUUGAUGAAAUAAUUCCUUGGCAACUUCGAUAUGCCCAGCUUUGCACAACCCAUCAAUUAGGAUAGUAUACAGGACAAUAUCAAGUUCCAACCCACUGUUUCGCAUUGCUUGAAAAAGUUUCAAUGCCUCUUCGAUAUGACCUGUUUUGCAUAAACCAUCCAGCAAAAUCGAACAAGUCACUAAAUCUGGAACUUGUCCAGAAGCAACCAUCUUUCUAAACAGUUCACAUGCAGUUGAAACUCUCCCUAACUGAAACAUACUUUGCAAGAGAGUGCUAUAUGUGACAGUAUCCGGGAUUGGUCCCUUUAGAGAUAUUUCAUGAAAGAGUUCCAUUGCUUUGCCUAACCUUUUACCUUUGCAAUAUCCAUUGAUCAUGGUGUUGUAAGUAACUAUAUUAGGUGCACAACCCUUCUCAAUCAUCAAGUUGAAAACUCUUCUAGCUUUAUCCAUUUCAUUCUGCAAGCAAUGACCACUAACUAAUGCAUUAUAGGUAACAACAUCAGGCUCAAUGCCUCGCUUUAUCAUUGCGUCAACAAAAUCCUCAGCUUCAGAGACCAUCCCUUCCUUGCAAUGCGCAUCAACCAAUGUACUAUACGUGACAACAUUAGGCUCAAUGCCUUGUUUUCUCAUCAUGUCAACGGUCUCUACAGCUUUAGAAAUCGUUCCUUCCUUGCAAAGAGCAUCAACCAAUGUAGUAUACGUGACAAUAUUAAGUGAAAUAUUGUUAUCCACCAUUUCAUUCAAGAGCCUUGUUGCCUCCUCCUGCUGGCCCGAAUUACACAUACCAUGAAUUAAGCAGUUAUAAGUAAUGAUAUCUGGUCUAAUGCCUUUAACCUUCACUUCGGAGAAGAGAUCGAGAGCCCCCUGUAACAAACCGUUCUUAGAAAGGCAGUCAAUGACAGUGUUAUAUGCUACAAUAUCGGGUUCAUAACCACUGCUUUCCAUCAGCCUUAGAAACCUAACAGCUGUAUCAGUAUUGCCGGUCCUACACAACCCCUUAAGUACUAUACUGUAAGCAAUCAAAUUAGGUUGAUACCCUUUUUCAGUCAUUUCAUCGAACAUACAAACGGCCUCAGACAUCUUACUUUGAUUACAAAGCCCAUUUAUCAAAGUUGAAAAAGUUACAGCACCAGGGUCAACACCUAACUUCAGCAUUUUCCCCAAAACAGAAAGCCCAAAAACCUAAUUGACAAAAGCAAUUUGUCAAGAUGUUCAUAGAAUAAACAUCAUGGGAAACUCCCAAUAAUUCGAUCUGUCUAUACUUAGAAACAACAAUGGCAUAAUGUUUCAUCUUAACAAUGGCUCCUAAUAAUUUAGUGAAUUCCACAAUUGAAGGCUUUGGGUACUUUUCAAUCAUCUUAUUGAACAAACUCAAAGCAUGAUCAACAUUAUCGAAGCGGUGGUCUCUUUUUCCCUUUCCUCUAACAGGCAUGGACAUGCGUUUCUUACUUAGGCAUUCGAUGUGGGUAGCAAUGGUGUUAGAAGAAGAAGAAAAAGAGUGGAAAUUAGAAAGAAGGCUUCCAGCAUUAACAACGGAACGAAGAAUAAAAGAAGAAGGAAGCUUACCCAUAUCUUGAAAGCAGAAAUGGCAGCGGCAGUAGCAGAAGAAGUGUAAAUUUUGGGUUGCGAAGUGGUGUUGAGGGAAAGGGUUGGGAGCGUAAUUUGGGUUUUUAAUUUUUUUAAUGUGAAUAAUAUUUAAUAAAAAAAUUAAACUUUAUUUUGAAAUGCAAUCUUCAAUUAUUAAACUUAUAAAUCUUCCUUUUAAAUUUAAUAAAAUUACUAUUUACUUUUAAAUGGAAUGAACUUCAAAAGAUUAUUAGACUAACUUUAAUAAAAUUUAUUAAAUUUAAAUUUAAAUUUUUAGAUUAAGUUGGAAAAAUAUACAAAGAUUACAAUACAAUUAAAACUUAAAUUUAUAAAAUACUCUAUUUUUAUAAAUUAUAUUUUGUUGACAUUUUUUUAAUGUUGAUGCAUCUUUUUGUGUGGCAUCUCCUUGCAAGCAUAAUUCGUUAUGCAAAAAUCGCCUUGCAGUUACAAAAUAAGACAGUCCGAGAUGUGGCAUUGCAGUGUAGAUGGAUGACGGUAAGCGUUACUGUUCUCAAAAGUCGAUCUAAAUUCAUCACUUGAAUGUUUGCUUGAGUUCUAGAAUAUAUAGACUCAUAGAUGUAGAACAUAUUUCUCGAGUGGCUUAAAAUGCUGUUGCAACGAGGCAGGUUGUAAUCAUUAGAGUCAAUUUAUAUUUUGCUGGCUUGAUUCCAUAAUUCUACUCUGUGUUUUAUAGAGUGUAUAUGUGUUUGUGUGCGCGCCUACAUGCACAUGUGUGAUAAGAGAACAAUCUGAUUUAUGCUUGAUGCAGAAAAAGAAAAAUAGCAAGAGAAGGAAGAACAUAAUAUAGCCAGGAAAAGUAAAGACAAAAAGGUAAGAUUUAUGAGUUUCUUUCUUCUGUGUGCUAAACUGUAAUUAUUUUUGUUUUCUUUACUCCUAUGAGCAUGCUCAGUUGUGUAACUCUUAGAACUCACGAUAUAAGAUAUCCUUUAAAGGUAAAAUAUUCUCCCUAUGAUACUGACACACAGAGAGCAUAUUUUUAUUUAAUUUCCUAUUUCCUCUUUCACACGGGCACAUCUGGAGAGAUGUGAAUGACUGCUUCCAUUCACAAUGGAAACCUCUCUUGUAUAUGAAAGGUAGUGGAGCAGAGCUCAUUGAGCAUAGGGAGGUUAUUGAGUUGAACAUAGUAUUUUAUAUUGAAUUAAAUAAUAUUGAAUUGUAUGUGAAUUGAAUGGAAAUUUCUAGUGAUAUGAUUUGAAUUAAAAAAAUUAAUGUGGUAUUGAAAUGCAUAUUGGAUUGAGAAAUUGAUUUGAAUUGUGAACAUGAGAAAUUGUGAAUUGAAUGAAAUUGAAAUGAAGUAUGAAUAUGUAUGAGAAUUUGAUAGUAUACUGAUUGGAAAGUGAAAAAUGUAUUGAAUUAAAUUGUGAUUAAAUUGGAAUGAUUUGAAUUGAAAGUAUGAGAAAGUGAUUGAAUUGAAAUGUGAUUCGAAAACCCUAUCAAUUAGUCGGGUUGAGUCGGAUAUAGUUGGUAUGCCAUAGGAUUGGAAGAGUUCAGGGAUUCUUCGACCUUGAGUCGAUAAGACACUGGGUGUCACUAUAUUUCUUCGAAUAGUUAUGAUGAGGUACUGGAUACCAACUUUCUUCCGCUCUAUCGAUGAGACACUGGGUGCCACUUUAUUGCUUCGAACUAUCCGAUGAGGCACUGGGUGCCAUACUGGAGUGUUUGGUUGGAUCCGUGUAUCCGUCAAAGUCCGACUCUUGUUAAUAGGGGUAUAUAAUUGAAAUGAGAAAAUUUGAAUAAGUGUGAUUGAUUGAGCUAUGGAAAGAAAUGAGAAAGUGAAAUUGUGAAUUGAUAUGUGAAUUGAAAAUCGAGAUAUGAGAUUUGAAGAUAUGAACCCGAAGUUUAUGAUGUGAUUAAGAGUAAAUUUUUGUUAUAUGAUAUUAGUGAGUAUAAAUUGCAAUAGAAUUGAUAUUGAAUAUAGUGAUAAAUUUAAUGAAUUGUAUAUGAAUUGAAAUGAACUAUUGGAGUGAGAUGUGAAAAAUCCAAUGGAAUUGAGGUAGUGAAAUAAGGUAUGAAUAUAAUUAAAUACAAGAUUUGAAAUAUUGCUUAUUGUUAUUAAUUAUCAAGUUGAUUUAACGUAUAAGAAAAUUAAUGAAUAAUUGUAGACUUAAAUUAAAUGUAUAUAAUUUAUCGAUUAAUAUUAUAAAUUUGAAUUAUGGUAAUACCACUGAGUAUACUCAUACUCAGCGUACGGUUGUUUCCGUGCGUAGGUUAGUAGAAAGCUAGUGUUCGAUCCAGCAUCCAGAGCAAUCCCGACCUCAGAUAAAUUUUAGUGAUGUACUUUUCUUUUGAUAAUGUGGCAUGUAUCUAGAUGAUGUAUUGAUUAAAGUAUGCUAUGUAUGUUAUUAAUUUGUGAAUUAGUUAUAAGUUAUCCGAUAUGUCCGGUAAUGCUCUGUAACUCUGUUCCGGCGACGGUUUAGGGUUAAGGGGUGUUAUAGUGCUCGGAUUGAUUUUCUGGUUAAUAAUAUAAAUUAGUUUAUGAUUAAUUUAUUUAUGAUCUUUUGGAUUGUAAAUUUGUUUCUGGACUUUCUUUAUGGUUUUUGCUAAUUUUUUUUGAAUUUUGGUAUUUUUAUCAUAAGACUAUGAUAACGUAUAUAUUAUCAAAUUAGAAAUCAAUUUCUAAAAUUAAGACUCUGAAAAUUUCUGCUGUAAUGUGAUUUGGUGGUUUUUCUGUAAAAUAAGUGUUUUGUCGAACAUGAGAUUUUCCAAAAAUAUGUAAGAGUUUUGCCAAACUUAUAUUUUUGACACACACUGAGUUAGAUAAAAUCAUAAUUUUUUUUAAGAGUUAAUGUAAUUCCUCAAGAUCUAGUCAUAUCUUCUACAUCGAGUGUGGGGUGUUACAAAACUCAUUCCUUGAAGCUUCCUCCCCAAGACCUCCUCUUACAUAUUGCUUGGACCAUCAAUACCUAAUUUAAACCAAGAUUAUAAUUUACACAAAUUAAUAAAUAUUGUAUAAAAAAUAAAAAAAUUAAAUUAAAUAUAAUAAUUAUUUAUAUUAUUAAAUAUAAUAUUUUUUGUUAGAAAAAAAAAUUCUUUAACAUAUUGUUUUCUUAAAUCUCGUUUAGUUUAUCUUGUUUGAUGAACUCAAUUAAUUAAAUUACUUUAAAUAAAAAAACUUAAUAUUUAUAUAAUUAAAAAAAUAUCAUAAUUAAUAUGAAUUUAUUUUAUAAUAUGGGGUAUAAUUAUAUUUAGUACAUAUUGUAUUACAAAAACAUAUAUACAUACAUGUUUAACUGCAUAUAAUAUAUCAAUUGUUAUAUAUACGUAAAAUAUGAAUAUAUAGUAAUUAUUAUACAAUUAUGAUAUUAUAAUGUACUUUCUUUUAUUAACAAUAUGCAACCUAAACCUUAAACGUAUUAUAAUAUAUACAAUUAACAUUAUAUAGUUAAGGUAGAUUAUUAAUGAUAUGUAUUCAUAUAUACAACUAUGUUAUUAUAAUGUACAUUCUUUAUAUUAGUGAUAUAUGUAAGCUUACACCCUAAACGAGUAACUAAUUUUAUGGUAGAUUAUAAUAUAUACAACUAUUUUUUAUCUCGUGCAAUGCUCGAAUUUAGUUGUAUGUAUCAAUUAAAUAUAUUACAUGUAUUUUUGUAAUGUUUUAAAAAUUUUAUGAUCGAGAAAGUAAAAAGAUACUCACUUGUCUAUAUAAAUUUAAUCUAAACUAGAUUUUAUUGAUUAUUUUAUAAAAAAAUCAAUAUUAUUAUGAGGUUAUUUUUUUCAUUUUAAAUUAGUAAAAUCUAGAAAAAUUCAUUUGAUGGUAUUUAAACCCAAAACACCAUGAUAUUUAACAUUUUAAUUUUAUGAUUUCAUCGGAAGUCUAAUUUGUUUUUUAUAUUAUUUUUAAUAAUAUAUAUAUUUGUCAAAUAAUUUCUUUCAACCACAUCCUAAGGAUGCCAUAAUCUAAGAUCAUAUUUAUUGACUAUAUUAUGUUUGUAUUGUAUUUUUAUACUUGUGUUCUAAAUUAUAAUAUUCAAAUUAAAAGUAAUAAAUAGCAAAAUCUAACAUAAACCACUAGCGGUGCAUUUGAUUUGUCGAAUCUUCGAUUAUGUUUUGCAAUAAAAUUACGAAAAUAUAAGAUUACGGAUGGAAUGCAAAAUACCUUAUUUGGUUCAUUUGCUUGGAAUGAAAGAUUCGUGUAUUCGACUGAUGAAAUUUAGGAUUACCUAAAAGCAAAUUUUAUUAUAUUUUCAUUGUUAAUAUUUUUUUUUACAAAUUCACUUCCUUUAACUUUUUUUAGUCCCGAUUUUUUCAAAAAGUUAUAAUAACUUAAUAAAUUCACCAUUUUAUCAUAUGAAUUCAAAUGAACUGCCUAAUUAUGAUAACUUAUUUAUAUGAUUUAUGAAUUGAACCAGCAAAAAUGUUGGGUUUUGAAAUCAACCUCUUUCACUUUCUCAUGUUAAAAACAUGAUACAAAGGAACAAUUCAUGACAUUGACUUCAAUUAGGGUUAAAUCGAAGUUCUCACAAAUUAGGAGAAAGAAAUACAAAAACUGGCAUAGGAUUGAAAAUACUUUGCAACCUAUAUUUGAUGAGGCCAUUAAGGUGGUGAAGCAGAAGGUUGGAAUUAAAAUAGUUAAUUCAAUCAUAUAGGUCGAAAUAUAAUUUUACCAUUGUAAUAAUUUUUUAAGAUACGAUACGAUACUAUACUAUAAAUUUAUUUUAUUUUUUAAAAUGUCACCUUGCUUUAGAGAACUCCAUUCAAAGAGUUAACACAUGAGGUUAAAAAGUCUAAAUUCAUAUAAAUUUCAUUAAAAAAAUCUAAUAAUGGAUUUUGAGACUAAAUUUUAGGAGGUUUAAUUAUAAUUUUUUUUUUAAAAUAAGAGUGUAACAAUAAAAUUUUAAAAGAACUUAGGGUUUGAUUACAAUUUUUAAAAAUAUGUGAGAUUAAUGAAAUUUUUUUUUUAAAAAAGGAGAGUUUAAUUAAAACUUUCAAAAAAAAUUUAAGGGAAUAUUGAAUAUUUCAAAAAGUUUUGGCCUAUUGGGCACCAUUACUGUCCUCCCCUAUGUAAUAACUAUGAAGAAAGAAAGAGAAGAAAAGGGGAAAAAAUUAGAAGAUUAAAGAAAAGAAGUAAUGUGGUUUAUUUUAUUUUGAUAGAUAAAAUUAGUAAAGGAAACUAAAAUUUUCUAAUAAUCAUUUUCACCAAAUAUUUAAUAAAAUUUAUAAUAAUUAUUUUUACUAAAUGGCUUAAAAAAUAUAAAUAAAAAUUUAUCUAAAAUGUUGUUAUAUCAAAAGCUUAGGACAUCAAAGCUAACAACUUUCAUCAGAUCAGAACAAUUAUAAAAUUUAUCUCAAUCACUCAACCUCAAUUUAUCUCCUUUUAUUCUCAACUCAUGUUUAGUUGUUCGUACAAAUGCCCCUGCUUUAAAAUUCACAAGCAAUAUUGGUUUUCCCCUAAUUUCUUAACAUCACCACCAAAAAGAUCAAGAAGUUGCUAAGAUCAAGAUCAACAAGCUACACAAGUCACAACAAAAUCAACAAUAUUGAAAAUAGACACUAAACCUCAUUCUAGUUUCCACAAUCUUUUAUCCCUGUGCAAUGGUUAUGUACAACUGAUUCACAUUGCAAGUGAUGAUCUUUACACAAUUUGUGAAACAUUUCAGAGCAAGAUUGAUUUAUUAGAGUAUAUGAUAAUAUCCAUAAAUAAGGUGGCAGUGAAUAUAUCUGCAGAAAAGCCCUUAGCAACCAUUUCCGUAAGAAGUUGUGUUGCCUUUGAGGUAUAGCUGUUGCAAAGGAACCCCCGAAUCAUUACAUUAUAACAGCAGCUAUCAGGCAAACAGUCAUUAUCUCCCAUGCUCCCAAACAACCUGUAUGCUUCAUCUGGCAAUCCCUCUUUACACAGUCCAUUAAUCAUUAUACAAUACGAGUAAACAUCCGGUUUUAAACCAUUGUCUGAGAGUUGAUGAAAUAAUUCCUUGGCAACUUCGAUAUGCCCAGCUUUACAAAACCCAUCAAUUAGGAUAGUAUACGGGACAAUAUCAAGCUCCAACUCACUGUUUUGCAUUGCUUGAAAAAGUUUCAAUGCCUCUUCGAUAUGACCUGUUUUGCAUAAACCAUCCAGCAAAAUCAAACAGGUCGCCAUAUCUGGAACUUGUCCAGAAGCAAGCAUCUUUCUAAAAAGUUCACAUGCAGUUGAAAUUUUCCCUAACUGAAACAUACUCUGCAUAAGAGUGUUGUAUGUGACAGUAUCCGGGAUUGGUCCCUUUCGAGAUAUUUCAUGAAAGAGUUCCAUUGCUUUGUCUAACCUUUUACCUUUGCAAUAUCCAUUGAUCAUGGUGUUGUACGUAACUAUAUUAGGUGCACAACCCUUCUCAAUCAUCAAGUUGAAAACUCUUCUAGCUUUAUCCAUUUCAUUCUGCAAGCAAUGGCCAUUAACUAAUGUAUUAUACGUGACAACAUUAGGCUCAAUGCCUCGCUUUAUCAUUUCGUCAACAAUACCCUCAGCUUCAGAGACCAUCCCUUCCUUGCAAUGCGCAUCAACCAAUAUACUAUACGUGACAACAUCAGGCUCAAUGCCUUGCUUUCUCAUCGUGUCAACGAUCUCUACAGCUUUAGAAAUCGUUCCUUCCUUGCAAAGAGCAUCAAUCAAUAACGUAUAUGUGACAAUAUCAAGUGAAAUAUUGUUAUCAACCAUUUCAUUCAAAUGCCUUGUUGCCUCCUCCUGCUGGCCCAAAUUACACAUACCAUGAAUUAAGCAAGUGUAAGUAAUGAUAUCUGGUCUAAUGCCCUUAACCUUCAUUUCAGAUAAGAGAUUGAGAGCCUCCUGUAACAAACCGUUCUUACAAAGGCAGUCAAUGACAGUGCUAUAUGCUACAUUAUCGGGUUCAUAACCUCUGCUUUCCAUCAGCCUUAGAAACCUAACAGCUCUACCAGUAUUACCGGUUUUACACAACCCCUUAAGCAUUGUACUGUAAACAAUCGAAGUAGGUUGAUACCCCUUUUCAGUCAUUUCAUCGAACAUACAAACGGCCUCAGAAAUCUUACUUUGAUUACAAAGCCCAUUAAUCAAAGUUGAAAAAAUUACAACAUCAGGCUCAACACCUAACUUCAGCAUUUUCCCCAAAACAGAAAACCCAAAAUCAAUUCGACCUAAUUGACAAAAGCAAUUAAUCAAGAUGCUCAUAGAAUAAACAUCAUGGGAAACUCCCAAUAAUUCGAUCUGUCUAUACUUAGAAACAACAAUGGCAUAAUGUUUCAUUCUAACAAUGGCUGCAAAUAAUUUAGUGAAUUCCACAAUUGAAGGCUUUGGGUACUUUUCAAUCAUCUUAUUGAACAAAAUCAAAGCAUGAUCAACAUUAUCGAAGUGGUGGUCUCUUUUUCCCUUUCCUCUAACAGGCAUGGACAUGGGUUUCUUACUUAGGCAUUCGAUGUGGGUAGCAAUGGUGUUAGAAGAAGAAGAAAAAGAGUGCAAAUUAGAAAGAUGGCUUCCAGCAUUAACAACCGAACGAAGAAUAAAAGGAGGAAGCUUACCCAUAUCUUGAAAGUAAGCAAAAUGAAAGCAGAAAUGGCAGCGGCAGUAGCAGAAGAAGUGUAAAUUUUGCGUUGCGAAGUGGUGUUUAGGGAAAGGGUUGGGAGCGUAAUUUGGGGUUUUUUUUAUUUUUUUAAUGUGAAUAAUAUUUAAUAAAAAAAUUAAACUUUAUUUUUAAAUGCAACCUUCAAUUAUUAUUAAUAUUAUUAUAUACUUAUAAAUCUUCCUUUUAAAUUUAAUAAAAAUUUACUAAAUUUUAAUUUUAAUUUUUAGACUAAGUUGAAAAAAUAUACAAAGAUUACAAUACAAUUUAAACUUAAAUCUAUAAAAUGUUCUAUUUUUAUAAAUUAUAUUUUGUCGACAUUUUUUUAAUGUCGAUGCAUCUUUUUGUGUGGCAUCUCUUUGCAGAUAUGCGUCAGAGGCAAGCAUAAUUCGUUAUGCAAAAAUCGCCCUGCAGUUACAAAAUAAGACAGUCGGGGAUGUGGCUUUGCAGUGCAGAUGGAUGACGGUAAGCGUUACUGUUCUCAAAAGUCAAUCUAAAUUCAUCACUUAACUGUUUGCCUGAGUUCUAGAAUAUAUAGACUCAUAAACAUAUUUCUCGAGUGGCUUAAAAUGCUGCUGCAACGAGGCAGGUUGUAAUCAUUGGAGUCAAUUUAUAUUCCAUAAUUCUACUCUGUGUUUUAUAUAGUGUAUAUGUGUUUGUGUACGCGUCUGUAUGCAUAUGUGUGAUAAGAGAACAAUCUGAUUUAUGCUUAAUGCAGAAAAAGGAAAGUAACAAGAUAAGGAAGGAAGAACAUAAUAUAUGCACAUGUGUGAUAAGAGAACAAUCUGAUUUAUGUUCUGUUAUGAGCUUUAAUAAACUACCAAUUUCUAAUAAAGAAAAGAAACAGAGAAAAGUGAAGAGGAAAAUUUGAUGUUCUUCUAUAGAUACAUUUUUUUGUCACAGAAUGCAAGUAACAGAAGAAAGGGUCUAGUCUUCUAGCUCAGUCUUCUAGCUAUGACUUCUCAUUGUUGUCCAACUUUCAGAAGAUUGGACGAAAUUGAAAGGAGUGCAUGAUUUCUCUGUGGUUAAUACAAAUGUCUUGACUGAUUCAUUUAUUUGUUCAACCAACGUGUGCUUCCGAUGUAUUUAGAUAAAAGCUUUCGUUAUUCUACAAUGAAAGGGCAUGCAUCAUUAUUUUUAAAUAUUUAUGAUAUUAUUUAAACCCCCGAUUGAGUUGCUGUCACGAGUCUAUCGAGCUCCAAUUCGGUUAGAGAAAUUAUUAAAAUGUUCUUCCUUAAUUAAAAUAAAUUGUAUUAUUUGAGGGUAUUUUAAUCUUUUUAUUUAAAAAUAAUAAUAAGUUUACAUGUGGUGGGAUUUUAAUAUUAUAUUUGUAUUUUAAUUGUAUUAUGCUUACUUUAUUGCUUUAAUGAAUUGUAUAUCUGCACUUAAAAUAAACCCUUGACUAGGGAAAUAUAAAAAAUUUGCAUGUGGCAGGAUUUAAACUCAUGUUAAUAUUCUAGCUUAAUAAUUGAGUACUAUUAUAUAUUUAAUUUGAUUUAUUUAUAAACAUUACAAUAUAUGUAAAAAUAAUUUAAAAUAUAAAUUUAUUAAUAUAUGUAAAAACAGCUUUUCCGGAAAAUAUUUUCAGGAAAUUUGCCAAACAACAAAAAAUAUUUUACACAGAUUCAUCCAAACACUAGAAAAGCAAAUCAUUUCCAGAAAAGUAAAUCAAUUUCUAGAAAUCAUUUUCCAGAAAAUAUUUUACUGGCAAAUAAAUGGAGCCUUAGUUUAUCGAGUUUUGUAAGAACUCAAUCUUGGUUGAGAUUCCAUUACAAUUGUUGUUUCAAGUUCAAAGAUGCUUCCACUACCAUGGUGGCAACGAUCUAAACAUAGACUUCACGCAUCAAGGUUCUGGUCACCUUGAUGCCCGAGUGUGCCAAUGUAACUUGCUGAAGUCUAUUCUUGCUCCCAAUUAUCGACAAAGAAGCCUGAUUCAAGUAGGGGUGUUCAUUCGGUUAACCGACCCGAAAUAGCAUUAACCGAAUUAAAUGACCCUUCAAAAUUUUUAACUAUUAACCGAACCGAAUUUUUUUCAAAAAAUUAACCAACCCGAAAUUUUGUUGGUUAAUUCGGUCGGUUAACCGAAAAUUAUAUAUUUUUUAUUUUUGGAUAUUUUUGCAACAGUUGAGGAUAUUUUUAUUCAAGAACUUCAGAGAAUUAGGUACACAACUUGUUUUACUGAAUGAUUUAUUAUUUCAACCAACCAAAAGUGUUGGCAUCAACAAAGAAGUGUAUCCCAUUUACAAGCAAGGGGUAACAGCCCGGUUUUAGCUAAAUCGAAACAGUGAUUUCGGAACCACAAAUCUGAUGUUAAAAAAUUAUUUUAAUAUUAUUUUAUUUGUUUAAAGCAUGAUAUUUGAUAUGAGUGAAAAUUUCAUGAGCUAAUUUUAUCGUUUGGACGUCUAAUUUGAUAAAAGGACUUAAUCGCUUAAAAUGCAAAAGUUACAUUCUACUUGUUAAAAGUGCUUAAUUGCUAUGGUAGAUUAAAUUAAAAGUCCUUCUGAUGAUAUUAAAUCAUUCAUAAUGUAAGUGGACAUUAUGUGCAUGGUUAGGUGAAUUAUAAUGGUUAAAAUUCAAGGUUAUUACAGUAAUUGGAUAAAUAUAUGUUAGUAAAUUAAUUAAAGAAAAGUAUCAUCUUUCUUCCUCAUUGUUUUGACCGAAAAUUAGAAGAAGAAAGACUCCAUUGUUGCAUUUUGAAGGUUCGACCAUUGUCUUACUUGCAUGUAAGUGUUUCCUUGCUCGGUUUUUAAAGAUUUAUAUGUUUUCGGCAUCAUUGUAACUUAAUCUAGCUAACCCAAGGACUAAUUUGAGAAAUUUUUAAAAUUAUAGGGUUUUUCCAUUGAUAAAUAAGCAUAUGUUAUGAUGUCUAAUGGUAGAAAAUGCAUGGUUGUUGUUAGAUAAACAACAUUUGUAAAGUGAUUUUUGUGAAAAAUGUCAAAAAGGGAUUAAAUUGUGAAAAAUGAAAAUUGAGUGGUUUAAAUGUGUAAUAAAUGAAAGUUUUUGGCUUUUGGGGACCUAUAGGAAAUUCGGCCAAGCUUGGGUUUAAUGAAAAUUUGUGAAUUUUGUGUAUUUGUGAAAUAGGGACUAAAUUGAAUAAAUGUGAACGUUUAGGGGCUAAUAUGUAAAAAUGACAAAAUAUGUGUUUAAGGAUUCAAUUGAAUGAAUGAUUGUUUAAAUGAGUUAAUUUUGAAUACAUAUAGAUCAAGAAAGAAAGAAUUCAAAUUUAGAUCGGGGGAAAAAGUAAGGUUAUCUAGUAAUCGAUCUGAUUCGUUAAUUCCGAAUACGAGGUAAGUUCGUAUGUGGUAAUUUCAUUAUAAAUGCAUGUUAAAUGCUUUGAUAUUGCAUAAAUUGUGAUUAUGAGAUUACGUAUAUUGUUUGAAUUGUGAAUACGAUUCUACGGAUGUGUUCGAUGAUGAAAUUGACAAGUGAAACUUCCCAGUUGAACCUUAGGAAUAGUUUAGGAUGCUAGUGACAUGUCAUUAGGCUAUCAUAUUGGCUUCUGGCCAUGAUAUCGGCACUUCGGGUGUGAAUAAUACCUUGAUUAGGCUACGGGCCAUGGUAUAGGUAUUCAGAGAGGAGUUACCUUGAUUUGUCUACGGGGCCAUGGUAUAAGUACUCUAGGAUAAGUUACCUUGAUUUGGCUAUAGGCCAUGGUAUAGGUACUUAUCGAUUGAGAUCCUUGAGUAUCCAAAUUCUAUUCCAAAUGGUUCAAUGGGUAAAAGAAUGACGUGGUUGAGAAAGAGGUUAGUACGUGGUGAUACAGGUACGUACGGAACCUAUUCCAGUAUUAUAUUGAGAAAGUUCAAUGAGAUGGCAUUUAAUCAUGUUUUGAGACAUGAGAAAGGUUUGUGUUAAUGUGAUGUUGAUUUGGUAAUGUGUAAAUGGUUGAAUUACAUUUAUUUGAUGAACUGAGUUACUCACUUAUGAGCUUACUAAGCUAUGAAGCUUACUUUGUGUUAUUUUUCUAUGUUGUAUAGUAAAUUGAAGCUAGCUCGGAUCCGAGAGUCGUCAAAAACAUCAUCGCACUAUCAAACACCUAAGUUGGUACUUUUGAGUUGUGUAUAUAUGGUAUAUGGCAUGUAUAGGCUAGUUAUUAUACGUUGGUUGUGAAUAUAGCCAUAAGAAUUGGCUUGUAAAUGUAUAUGUUUGUUUUGUAUGUAUAGCCAUGAGUGAUGGCUUAUUUUGGUAUGAUUGGUAUAAAUGUGGCUAUGUUUUCAUAAUUGCUCAGGUUAUAUUUUGAGUUUGGUAAAUGAUCUAUAUUGAAUGAUUGAAGUUGAAUGGAUGAUAUAUGUUUGGAAUGGAUUGGUUUAGUUGGAUGAAUUAUACAUGUGAAUUAUGCUUAGUAAAGCAAGUUAAGUUGAUUAGUAUUUGAAUAGGUAAAUGGUAUUGAAUUGGGUAUCGAAAUGGUUGAAAUUGUAAUACACCCUACCCGUAUUCAUCGCCGAAAUGGGGUAUGAGGCAUUACCAGAUUUUACCGAAUAAAUUUUUCGCAAAAUCCCAAAGUUUUUUUUUUUGAACUCAAUAUAACCCAUUUACAAGUAUCUAAUCUUCCCUGCAAUUUUAAACCGAGACCAAUCCAACACAACCAAUCCAUUUCAACAUAUUUUCAAGAUAAAUUUAACGUAUUCAUAAGAUAACCUCAUCACAUACCAAAACCAAAAUUUGUUAGCCAUACAAAUGGCUAACCAUACAUUCGUUUCACAUUAAAAUUUACUUUACUAGCUUAUACAUGCCAUUGAUUUCCAAAAUAAAGUUUCUUUAUAUACCGAGAUCUUGAGGUUGAUAGUGUGAUGAGUCUCCGACCAAAUACGGCUUCCGAGCUCUUAACACUACAAAAUAGGGAAAAAUGAAACAGGGUAAGCACUUUGUGCUUAGUAAGCUCAUGUAAUAAGAAUUAUACUUACCUAAUAUUUUCAAUACAAUGCAAUAAACAUUCAUACAUCCAUUCAAUACAUUAUUCCCCUAACAUGCACAAACUCAACAUUUAAGUUAGUUCAAUAAUUUCCAUGUAUCAAUAAUAUAUAUAUCACGAUUGAUGAGCUCAUCAAUACCAUGAUUUCCAUUCCCUUGUUAUUUUUCCAUAUUUAUCCCGUUGAAUUUCUCGAAAUUUCGAUCGAUUUUCAGGGGUACACCUAAGUGUACAAAUCCGGGUCCGUCAAUUCAUAUUCAUGUGUGCACAUUUCCAUUUUAGAGAGCACACUCCCGCGAACCUCAACCUUACAGCAGGAUUACCAGUCUAGGCUAAAUCCCCUGUAAUAUAAACUCGUAGAGUAUUGUCGGGAUUACCAGUCCAGGCUAAAUCCCCUGCAAUGACAAUUACUCUAAUGAGCUUGGAUCUGAAUUACCAGUCCGGGCUAAAUUCAGACCCUAAUUCGGAUUACCCGUCCGGGCUAGAUCCUUUUUACCGUCAAUUCCUUUUCAGAGAUCCAUCGAAUUUUCCUUUCAUUCAACCAGGAUUUAUUUUCUCUUUUCAUCAAGAAUAUCAAUCCAAUUAUCAUACAAUAAACAUCCAAUUCAUAUUCACAUUAGAGCUGUCCAUGGGCCGGGCCGGGCCCGAAAAAAAUUUUCGGCCCGACUCUUAGGCCUGGGCCCGACCCAGCCCGAAAUAUGGGCCUGAAAUUUUGCCCAGGCCCGGCCCAGAAAAAAAGAGUAAGCCUGAGCCCGGCCCGGCCCAGCCUGGCCCGAUUUUUAAUAAACACAAAAAAUAUAUAUUUUAAAAAUAAAAAAAUAAAAAUAAAAAUAUUUUUAAAGUAUUUUAAAAUUAAAAAAUAAAAAUAAAAAUAUAUAUUUAUUAUAUUCGGGCCGGGCCCGGGCCAAAAAAGUUGAGCCCGAGCCCGGCCCAUUUUUUAAACGGGCCUCAUUUUUUUGCCCAAGCCCAUAUUUUGGGCCUAUAUUUUUACCCGAACCCUCCCAUAUUUUGGGCGGGCCGUCGGGCCGGGCCGGGCCGCCCGGCCCAUGGACAGGUCUAAUUCACAUCAAGAAAAAUAUAUUUCAAGCAUUUAAGAAUAUAAUUCAAGUUACAUGAACUUACCUCGAUACUUGUUCGUAAACAAAAAUCUACUAAUCCCGAACUUUUUCUUUUCUUUGAUCUAGCUUUGUAUUUGAAUUUUCUGGAUCUAAAUAAAUAAAUUUAAUCAUUAAUCUAAUACAUUUCAUGUUCAUAUGUAAUAUUCUCUAUAAUCCCAUUACUAUUUAUAGUGCAUUCAAAGCUGUCUCAUUGAGUCAUAGUCACUAAAUUAUUUAUAUCUUGAGCUACGGAACUCCAAAUUAAGAUCCGCUAAUUUUCCCCAAAACUAGACUCACAUAUAUUCUUACCAUAAAAUUUUUAGAAUUUUUUGUUUAACCAAUAAGUACAGUUUAUUCUUUAAAGUUUCCCCUGUUUCACUAUUCGACAGUUCUGACCCCUCUUCACUAAAAAUUAAUUAUCUCAUCGUACAGAAUUCGGAUGAUCUUCUCGUUUGUUUAUUUUGAAAAUAGACUCAUUAAAUAUUUUAAACAUAUAAAUUUAAGCCCCUAAUUAUUUUUAUCCAAUUUUUUUAUUAUUUUCCGAAGUCAGAACAGGGGAACCCGAAUUCAUUCUGACAUUGUCUCACAAAAUCUAUUAUAUCUCAUGAUUUACAAUUCCAUUGCUUACACCGUUUCUUUUAUAAGAAAUUAGACUCAAUAAGCUUUAAUUUAAUAUUUUAUUAAUCCUCUAAUUCGAUCUGUAAAAUUUAUGGUGAUUUUUCAAAGUUAACCUACUGCUGCUGUCCAAACUGUUUUAGUGCAUGAUGUUAAUUACCAUUUUCCCCCAAGCUUUCAAUAAAUGAUAAUUUCAUCCCUACUCAAUUAACCUCUCAAUUGAGCUGAUUUUUAUCAAUUAACUCUUUAUCCCAUCACUUUAAACUACUUUAUAACCUUUGGAAAUAAGAAUUUUAGUACUAGACUUUGAUUCCAAACUUUUUCACAAUUAGGUCCUACAAAUCAAUUUCUAUUGAAAUUACCUAAUAAAAUCAUCUCAUAAACAAAUUAAACCUUCAAUUUCAUGCGAUUUUAUCAUAAAAUUACAGCACUCAACCAUGGUGACUUUCAAUUUUAUUCAUGAAAUCAAAAACUAAUGCAUUUAGUAAUAGGACCUAGUUGUAAAAGUAUUAGAAGCAUAAAAAUUACAAGAAAAAGGUAAGGAUUAACUCACUUGGUACAAAAAUUAUGAAAAAACAGCUUGAAUAAACCCUUAGGACGUUUUUGGCUGAUGAGAAUGCAGAAAAAUAAAGAGAAUUCUAGAUAUCCCAAUUUAGUCCCAUUUUUAUGUUAGUAAAAUUUGUUAUUUUCCCAUUUUAUCCUUAUUUCACCAAUUCUCCUGAUUUUUCUCAGCUUGUGCCGCCCAAAAUUUAUCCUCUUGGGCUUAUUUACAAUUUAUGUCCCUCCUCAUUUAACAAUUGAGCUAUUUAAUCCUUCUAGUAACUUUUACAUCUUUUUCUAUUUAGUCCUUUUCACUUAAUUGACUACCCAAACAUUAAAAUUUUCUAACGAAAUUUUAAUACCAUAUUACUAACAUUUCAUAAAUAUUUGUAAAAAUAUUUUUGACUCGGUUUUACGAGAUCGAGGUCUUGAUACCUUGUUUUUACCUAAUUUCUUCAAUAAUUUCUUUUUCUAACUAACCACUAAAUCGGUAAAAUUUUUCUAUCGAUAUUUUCAUAUGAUUUUCCUAUCAUAUCAAUAUUCAUGCAAAAAUAUUAAAAUAUAUUUAUCUUUAAAUCGGAUUUGUGGCUACGAAACCACUAUUCCGAUAACCUUGAAUUUAGGCCAUUACAGAAAUAGAUUUGGUAUGAUUGUGUAUUGGUUGAUGAUUAUUGGCUACAUAUUUUUGUUUCAAAAUGGUACCAAUUGAGUUUACUUAGGUGUGUGCAAAAAGGGUGGUAAAUUGGCUUUGCAAAUGGCCUAUUUUUGUCCACACGGGCAGAGACACGGGCGUGUGUCUCAGCCGUGUGUCCCUUGGUGUUGAAAUUAAUUUGAAUUUUGUAUGCUCCACACGAUCUCACAAACAGGUGUGUGACUAGCCGUGUGGUACAAGUCAGUAUACCCCUUAAAUGGUACACGGCUUAACACACGGGUGUUUGACUUGGCUGUGUUGCAGUAUACCCUACAGGAUUAGCACGGCCUAGUACACGGCUUGGCACACGGGCGUGUGUUGCCACUUCGAAGGACAUACGGGCUAGACACAUGGGCGCGUGGUCGGCCGUGUGACCCAAGUCAAUAUGUAUACCCUGUUUUCACACGGCCUGGGACACGGGCGUGUCUAGAGCCGCGUGAGGCACAUGGCCUGUUCACACAGGUGAGUGACCCUUGAAUGAUUGAAAAUUUUCUAAAUUUUCCAAGAAUUUUGUAUGUUAUCGGUUUAGUCUCGAACCACUUUUAAAACAUGUUUAAGGCCUCGUAGGCCCUUAUAAGGGACAAUGUGUUUGUAUUGAAUGGUAUUUGAAUAUGAAUGUAUAAAUGUAUGAAUUAUGUUUAAUAAAUGGCGUGUAUUGAUCGGUAAUACCUCGUAACCCUAUUUUGACAGUGAAUACGAGUGAGGGGUGUUACACAAGGAGAGAUUUGUUGAGACUUAAAAAGAAUUGAAGAAACUAAUACUGGUCUAGUUCAAGGAACAAAUUUCAACAUGAUGAACUUAAUCAAAAUACCAUUAACAGAAGAGAAAGAAUAAAAUUACUAAAGAAAAACUUACCUGAAAUCUCAAAAUGUUUAGCUAACAAUGGCUUCAAAUGAAAACAAUACCCCUUCAGGUAUUGGCGAAGUGGCAGUAGGGAGGAUUUGGCAAACAUACAGAGGGUUCUAGGUUUUUUUUAGGUUAGAAUUAGAAGUUUAAAUUAGAGAUUUUGAAGUUUAAGUUUUUUUUUGUCGUCUAUUACUUUAGACACUUUUACUUUUACUUUUAGUUUUAGAAUUUUGUUUUUAUUUAUUAAAUUAUUUGUAAUUUUUAUGAUUGGGUUGGGUUGGGUACUUGGGUUUAUAUAUAUUAAAUUGGGUUUAUGUUGGAUUGGGUUUGGGUGAAUAGUGAGCCUAUUUAUAUAUUAUAAUUUUAUUUAUUAAUUUUUUAGGUUAAAUCGAAAAAUUCGGUUAACCGAUCAGUUUUGAACCGAAUAAUGGUUAAUCGAAAACUUAAAAAAUUAUUAACCGACACCGAUCGAAUUAAUUCGAUUUUAUCCGAAUUUUGCACACCCCUAGAUUCAAGUAAUGGUGGCUUGUUUUUCUCUUAAUAUAGUGACAAGUGUUACUAGCCUUUGAGGACUCCUCUAUGACCUUAAUGGCUUUCAUAUUGUAUGAGACAUUUAAUUCAUAUAUUUGUAUUUUUUACUAAAUAUAAAUAGUAAGAAAAAUGAGAAAGUAAUUUCAAAACAUUAAAUAGGUCAACUAACAUCUAAUACGGCUUUGAAUGUCAUACAUUUCCACGAGCAUUCAGUUUCAACUUUGAAAAUAUAAAGCAAUAAAUGGUUGCCUGUUUAUGACAAAUGAGGUAGUUGAAUCGCAUGCAUGCACUUACUAUAUCAUAUAUAUGCACACACACAGAGAGAUGUGUAUGGAUUUUUUAUUUUUAUUUUUUAUAUGUCAUAUUAAAGAGUAAAUUGAUUCUUUCAAUUUAAAUAUUUAUUUAUUUUUAUUAUUAAAAACUGAUAUGGUUGACGAUAUAAUCAAAUAGUUACAACUGACGUACCACGUGUACCUCAUUUCUACAUACAUGUACCAAUUAAAUAAUCACCUCAAUUUAUUCGAUUAGAUCUUCUAUUUAAAAUUAUUUUUAUCUUAUUUUCUUAAUUAUAUAACUCGAAUAAGACAUAUUAAAUAAUAUAAAACUUGAAUAAUAAAAUCAGAACAUUUUUAAACUUAAAAUGAUCUAACUCCAAAUAUCAUACUAAAUCUAAACCCAAAACUUAAAUUAGAGGACUAGCUUUUGUGAACCAAGUGGAACAAAAGAGGUAACCAACAACUAUCCCCCACUUGCAUCUCAAACUGGUAGAACAAAAGAUGGAACUGGUUGGCAGCUCUUUGUCUGCUGCAAAAACUGUUGGGAAUUCAGACCAAUGACAAUGUACUUCUUUUAAACACCUUCACAUUUUCUCUGCCCCCUUUUUUUGUUCUUUUUUGAACUUCAUUUUCAAUCAUAAUCACACCAAAAGUCUUACAUUUCCACUUUAGCCUACUUUGCAUGUUCCCUUUUUUAUAAUAAACUGAAGUACUUAAAGACAACAAAAAGACACGAAAAAAAAACACAAAGAAAUAUAGAAGAAAAUGCAUGGAAGUUCAACACAUGUGGGUCAUUUAUUUCUUUAUCUUCACAGUUCCUCACCAACCUUGCCUACCAGUGAUACCUAAAAGCAAUUUGAUUAAAGAAGUUUUUCACUUUGGUUUAUAAAUGUGUAAAGCUUUGCCGAUUUCAAUUACUUAAUUAUUUUUACUGACUCAAUCAUACACCAAUUCCCUUUUUAUUUGAGAGGAUUGAAUACGUUUCCAAGAGACAUGUCAAAUCGAGGGUAUCUCAAUUCAAUUAAAUGGGAUAACAGUUUCUCAUUCUUAAUCUAUAAAAUAAUAAUUUCAAUCAAAUCACACAUUACAAUAUACUAGAUCUUCUAAUUCUUUAAGAUGUUUGUCUAAAAGAUUGGUGAUAUGACUAGGAAGACGUUUGAAAUACCAUACAUUAGUUGCUGGACAUGCCAGGCUUAUGUAUUCCAUUUGAUAUCUUCGUAUUUGAGAAUCAAUAAAUUCAACUCCGCGUUGUUCACAAAAUUCAAGGCCCUCUUUUUGAUUUCCAAUUACUCGAUAAUUUUCACAAGCACAAAUUUCGCUUUUUUUAGGUCCAAAAAAUCAUUCGGGUCUCAAUUCAGUUAGGAAAAUUAAUUUAAUAUCUUUUUGUAUUUAAAAUAAAUUAAAUUAUUUGAGGGUAUUUUGAUUUUUUUUAUGUAAAAAACUAAUAAAAAUAUGCAUAUGAUGAGAUUUGAACACAUGCCAAUUGAGUUAGCAAAACCUUAAAUUUACCUUUGAACCAAAUUUUUUAUUUUGAUAUUUUUAUACAUAUUUUAACCUAAUGUAUUCAUGUGUUUAAAUUUUAUUUUAGUUACAAUUUAAUCCAAUUUUUUAUUUUAAUAUCGUAUAUAUUUCAUAUGUUAUUAUUAAUUAGUUUCAAAUAAUAUAUUUUAUUAUUUAUUGUAUGUUAUUUUUAAACACAAAUCUAAUUCUAAAUAUGUGAUUUCUACACACAUACGCGUGUGAUAAAUUUGACCAUUAACUUACACUUACAUGACUAAUAGUAGCAACGAGAAGUGGAUAUGUGGCAUGACUCAUGAAUGAAUAUACUGACAUGGCAUGCCAGAUCAUUUAUAUUUAAAAAACUAAAAAAAUCUUUAAAAAUUAUUUUAAAAUUUAUUAAAAUGCAUGUCUAAAAUGUACAUGGACAAAUUUAAAUGUCCCAAUUCAUUUUAAUGUAGACAUUUAUUUGUCUAGAUUCAUUCUAGAUACAUUAAAAAAUAUAAAAAUUAUUAAUAAUUAGAAAGAAAUUCUGAAAAAAAAAUAAUUAAAAAAAUUAUCAAAUAGAUAUAUAUAUUUUUGAGAAUUUGUGUAGUCAAACAAUGUUGCUGUUAACUAUUUCACCCAACCACCUAACACCGUUAGUCAAAAAAGCAUUUCCCCAAUCAGAACUUAACAAUCACCGGCCAGCUGUUAUUUUUAAUAUUUAAUUUUGUUUUAUAAAAAAGAGGGAAAAAUAAAAAUAUUGGUUAAUUAAAAAUAUUAGUAUUAUUAUUAAUUAAAAAUAAUAUUAAAAAAAUAAAAGAACAUUUCCCUCCCGCCCUCUCUCCCCCCCACCGUCACUCCGACCCUCUUCCUCUCCAUUUUAAACGUCGGCUAUUGACUUAUUGAUCCUUCGCAGGACUUUCGAGGUGUCGAUCGUAUAAUUUUUACUAUAAAUUCUCAUAAAACUUCAUUUAUAUUUAACUACUUUCUCUCUUUUACCAGCCAUAAAGUUGGUUUGCAGUAAGUUUAGUUAUAUUGAUGAUUAAAGAACAAUAAAAAUUAUACUGUUCGUAUUACCCAAAGAAUUCGGUAAAUGGAGAGGGAGAGGAAGAGGGGAGCGGUGGUGUGGGAGGGAGCCGAUAGGGGUGGGGGCGGAUAAUCUUUUAUUUUUUAAAUAUUAUUUUUAAUUAAUAUUAACAAUAUUUACUUGUUAAUUUCUACUUAUCUUAAUAUUAUUUAAAUAUAAUGACUUUUUAAAUUUAUAAACAUUUAUUUUAAUAUUUUUAGUUUAUUUUGUAUGUUAUAUUUUUUUAAAUUUUUUAUAUAAAAAAUAAUACAGAUGGGCCGGACCUAAAUUUUAACAUUUUCGUCUGAAGCGGGCUUGGAAAAAAAUUUAGGCUCAUUAUAUGAGCCCAAACUUAUCAAUCGAGCUUAAAAUUUUGUUAGGCAUGUAUAACUCUACUUGUGAGUAAAAAAAAGGUUAAAAUAGAUAAAUACAUCGUAUUAACAAUAUUAAAUGAACUCCAAUUUGGUGAGAGAAUAUUUUAUGUUAAAAGUUUUUUUUUUUAAGUUUACUUAAGAAUUAUUAUUGGUGUAGUGGUAAAAAAUUAUUUAUAAAUCCAUUAAACAUAAAUUUAAUCCCUAGAUAUAUUAAUUUUAAUCUAUUCAUUUAAAAAUUAUAUAAAAUAAAUCUGGACAAAUAAUUGUUCACAUUUAAAUAUAUUUAAACAUACAUGUGCAUUUUAAAUAUAUAAUUUUAGUAAAUUUUAAAUAAUUUUUUAAAAUUUUAAUAUAUAUUAACGUGUCAUGCAAAUCAACAUAUUUAUCCACUUGACAUGUCACUAGCCAGCUCUUUAACUGUCACGCCGAUCACUGACGGUUUUUAUUAAUAAAAGGGUCUAAUUAUUUUUUUAUAAUUUAAUUUAAUUUUCUUUUUUAAUUUUUUAUUUUUAAUGGCUUUCACUUUAAAUUAGGCAACAUGAAUAUAUAUAUUAAGAAUAUAACAUAAUCCAAUUUAAUAGAUUUUGUUUUGAGGAUAUUAUGAAUUAAAUCAAUAGGGUAGAGAGGGUAAAUCCCUAUAUUCCAAUAUAAAUUUUAAAUGUGAAACAAAAAUAGAGAAAGUGUAAAGAAUAGAGGGAUGGAGAGCAUAAUUAAACCAAAGAAAACUGCCCCAAUUUUCAGUAAAUUGGACUCAAAUGGAUAAAUUAUUAAAUGCAGCCAAAAGUGUUCAUGGUGAAAGGUCAACAACACUGCCUCACUUUUUUCUUAAAAUAUUGAUUAAUUCAAUUAUCAAAGAAAGAAAUCAACAUUCUUACAACUACUUUAAGGGCUGCUAUCAAAGAAAAACUUUAAUGGCUGUACAAAUUUUAGGGACUUAAAAGUAAAAAAAAAAUAUUUAAUUAGACUCAUACAGGUACUUAUCUGAUACCCUUUUAGCAGAAAUGUUAGGACAAUCAAAAUAUGGUAUGCAAAGGAAAAGAAAUAUCAUCACAAACCACAAGAAAUAAAGGGAAAUUGAUAUAAUCCAAGAAAAUUGGUUUACCAUAGAUCAAAUCAUACAACUGAAGAAAGAUGUUUUACCUUUGUGUUUUUUCUUCUUCAAUUUUAGCCAAUACCCAUCAUCACAGAUCACUCAAAAAUUACAAAAAGCAAUUCAUUAAGAAGAACCUGAAACUCUUGGUGAUGUGAGUGGAAACAAUGGCAAAAGCUGAGGCUCGGUGUCUCUAGGUGUAGACAUAGGUGAUGGGUGCAAAUAAAAGCCUUUCUCAGCUAUAGCUUUCUCUUCUUCUGAUGAAUUCCCUAAAGAAGGUGAAGACUUGUUGAAAGUGUCUUCAUUUAAUGGUGUAACCGGGCUAAGUGUUAGCUUUGGGAAGUCAAGCAAGCUUGGGGACAGCAUCUCUGCACUCCUAGAAGGCACAAAGGUGUUGAUCAUCAUGAGGCUGUUCUUGAGGUUACUGUUUCUCCUCUCAUAAAGUUUGAAACUUUGUUUUCUGGGAGAGUUUGUUUUCAUGGGAGGUAUAGGGAAAGAUGAUUUUGAAAGCAAUGGUGGUGGUGGAUCCUGUUUUUGCUGGGGUGGUGAUGGGGCUUUUGGGGAAGCUUGUUUAGCAGUUUCUGAGGAACCAGUGAGCAUUUGGACAACUUGUUUGAAAGUUGUUGUGUCAGCUUGGACAAAGGUUGUUGGGUAAGGAUUGGUUUCAGAUCUGGUCGGGUGUGGCGUUAACGGUGGGGUGUGAAUUUGGGCAGCCCCAUUGUUGUUGUUGUGUGGGGAGUUUAAAGGAGAUGAUGGGAAGUUGAAGUGUUCUUGAAAUGACCUUGUUGAACUUGAAUUCUCCAUGAAUGGAUGAUCUCUUUAGCAGUUUCCUCAAACCCUCAAAAGAGAAAACAGAAAGGGGGAGUAGUGUGGUAUGGAAGAGAAAGAAGAGAUGAGGAGUGAAAUACAAGGAUUGAGUCAUAAAGUAAUAAAAGGUUGCUUCUUGGUUUUGUUUUCUUGUGUUGUGGCAUCAAGUAAGGAUUAGAGUUAGUCGUUGGGUAAAUAACUGCCGCACACAUACUAAUGAUUUGAUCUCAACCCACUCAACUUAACUGUCCAUCAUCAAUAAAUCAAAUAAUUAAUCUAAAAUUGUUAUUAUAGUUGGAUUGAAUUGAUAAUUAAAAUAUAUUUAGAAUUAAGUCAAUUGAGUCUUAGCUCGAUUGGUAUGAGCAUUGUUACUAAUAUAGUAGGACUCGGAUUCGAGUGUGCUGAAGCGCAUUAUCUUCCUAUUUAUGGGUUGCAUGCUAUAUGUAGUUCUAAGUAUUAUAUUAAAAAGAACAGAUAUGAACCUAUAAUAAAAUUAUUAAAAAUACAUAUUUAGAAUUAAAUUAAAGUAAUUUAAAAGAAAAACUAAUAUCUAAUCAACUGGAAGUGAUAUAUGAAAUUAUUUAAAUAAAUACUCAUAUUUAUAUUUUUAAAAUAUUCAUAUUUUAAACUAUAAAAUAUUUAUUAAUAAUAUUUAUAGAUUGUAAUAUACUUUUUAUUAAAAUAUUAAUAUAGCUUUUUCAAUAAAUUAUUAAGAAAAUUACUUAACAUUUAAAAAUACUAUUAAUGUUAAAAGUUAUUAUUAAAAUAUAAAUUUACUAUUAAAUAGUUAUAUUAAAAAUUUAUUAAAUGAUUAAAAAUAAAUAUGCAUAUUCAACUAUAUUAAAAAUUAUAAUAUUUUAGAUUAAUAGUUGAUGUUUUAAAUAAUUUUUAAAAAUUAGAAAUAAGAUUUUAUUAUUAAUAUAAUAAUAUAAACAAGAGGCAAAUCUAGAGGGCUGACAAAUCUCGCCCCUAAAAUAGAAAAAUGUUAUUUAGGCCCUUUAAAAUUUUUUAAAAUUUAAAUUAGUUGCACUUUGACCCCUUAAAAUUAUAAAAAUUUGAUUUAAUUAAUUAAAAAUUAUAAAGAUAUAGACUAUAAAAAAUUAAAAUUUCAUUCGAACCCCCUAAAAAAUAUUCGGGCUUUGCCCCUGAAUAUAAAUUGAGUUACUUAUAAAGAAUUGUUUUUGAAAAAUGACUUAUUCUUUAAAAAAAAGAAGUCAUUUUUAUUUUUUAUUCACUAGUAAGUUCAUCAAAAUGAUUUUUACAAGAAAGACACAAAAAACACAGAAAAUAUUUUCAAUAAAACAAAGACACCCUUAAUAGAUAGAGUGUGAUUCUUCCAUUAGAUUUUGAUGUUGCUUGAAAAUGUGAAAGGUCAUGAAUUCAUCGUCCAUACUUUUCGAACAGAGUGUUUCCAACGUGAAAAAUAGCAGGAAAAUACCUGAUAGUACAUGAUUUCAUGGUGAAUGACAAUGAAUAAAACAAAUAAGAACGGCUAGUGAGGCAAUUUCUUUGUUGUUGUUCUAAAGCAUUACACUUUAUUGUGAGGCAUUAUGUAGAUUAAACAAUGUAUGUGAAGUUGUCUCUUCUCUCUCCACUUUGAAUGCAUCGAAAGAAAAGGGAUGAAGGUCAAAUUAAUCAAUUUUAAAUCAUUUAUAAUCUAUAUAUUUAUAAAAGAAAUUUUAAAAUUUCAGCAAAUAUGACUAAUUAAAUGAAACAUAUUAUAUAUCAAUUUUAAAAUUAAUUAUUCAAGUAGGUUGAGUUAGCUAGAAUGACAUUGAUAUUUUUGCUACCGUAGGAGGACGUGGGUUCAAGUGUGCUAAAGCGUAUUAUCCUUCUAUUUAGGAAGGGAUUAUUGGUAGUUCUAGGCAUUAUAACAAAACGAAUAGAUAUUAAAUCUUACACAUUUACUUUUAUUAAUUAUAAAAAAAAUGACUUUAACAUUAUUAAUUAGGGAUAAAUAUCAAAUUUAUCCAUGAAUGUUGAUUCAAUGUGCAAUUUGAUAUAUGAACUUUGAUUUGUAACAAUUAUACACGUGAAACUUGAAACGAGGUUCAUGCAUAUACAUGAAACUUUGGUUUUGAUUCAAUUGUACACGUUUAAAGAAAUGAAUUCGUACAUUUAUUUUCAUAUUAGAUUAAUAUAAUAGUUUGUGCAUACGAUAUAUCAAUGUAAAAUUGUGCUAAUUUGAUAAUGUUGUUAGUGAUUUGUUAAAAUUGAAUCAAAUCAAAAUUUCAUAUAUAAAAUCGCACAAAGUCAAAGUUCAUAUAUGACUUUACACAUAAUCAAAGUUCAUGUAUAGAUUUGAUAUUUAUCCUUGUUAAUUGUUAACAUAUUUAUAAAUUAUAUUUAUUUAAUUAAAAAAACUUGGAAUUUUAUCAUUUUUAUUUGAUCUAAUUACGUUCAAUGAUUUUAUAGAAUUAUAAAUUUAUUAAUUAAUAAUAAAUUAUAUUAUUUUUUUAAGUAGAACUUUUAAAAGAUAAGACCAAAUUAAUUUCAUAUUAACAUACUAUCAUAUUAAUUAAAUUUAAUUAAUGUUAUUUUUAUUACUAUCUCAUAAUAAUACCAACAAAUUUCUAAUAUCAAUUUAGUAAUAUAAUUAAUAAGCAUCAAUUCAAAAGUUUCUCCAAAUUUAUAUAUAUAUUAUAGAUCAGAGUCGAAAUUUUUAUAUAUAUCAUAGACAAAAUAUUAUUAUAGUUGCAAAGAAGAAGAAGACUAGUCUUUCUUUCUCUCUUCUUCUUUUUCUUCGCAAUUGGCUUUGCAACUAUAAUAAUAUUUUUCUGAGGAUCCACAACCGCUCGCAGUUAAAAGCUGUCAAAGGGAUCAUGGACGCCCCAUAACACUAACAUUGCAGUUGGAAUCCAUCGUUCUGUGAGUACACAAUAAGACCGUUACAGUUGGAAUCUGCUGAGGCUAUGAGUAUACAGCGAACAUUUGUUUAACUGUGGAGUCACGACCGCUCGCAGAUAAUAGCUGUCAGAGGGAUCGUGUAGCACAGUGAAAUUACAGUUGGAAUCUGUCGUUCUGUGGGUACACAGUCAAUCAUUCGUAUAUGCAAUCAAUAUGAGUUACAUUCUUCGUCCUUUCAUAUCGUCCCCCAACAUACAUAUGCAAUGCAAUCGUUCUUUAAUGCAUUCAUCCAUUCCAUCAUUAAUACUUUCAACAUCCUAUUUCAUUGCAUAAUAAUGAUAUUCACGAUUUUAUCCAUCAAUCAAUAGUUCAAUAAUUUAGGCAUAUGAGACGUUCAUUCGGCAUUUAUAACAUAAAAUCAUUCAUGGAUAAAGUAAUCAAUCAAAAGCAAUUAAAAUCAUAAAUUCAUUCAUCCAUAUAUUUAAUCAUUCUAAUCCUAGUCCAGGACCUAAUUGCAUAAUCUAGUUCUCUAGAUUCCGUUAAAAACCUAUUUAGGGACUGAUUCGUAUAAAAUAAUUAAAGAUAUGAAAAAAAUGGAAUUUUUAAGUUGCAAGGGCCACACGGCCGUGUGUGAUGCGAAGGAGUGAAGGACUAGGAGACACACAGCCGUGUGUUCAGGCCGUAUGUGAAGCCCUCAAGCUGUGUGCAAUGGAUUCACACGGUCGUGCGUUCGACCGUCUGCGGAGCCCUAGGCCAUGUGUGAUACGAAGGGAAUGAGGUGUAAGAGCCACACGGUCGUGUAUCUAGGCCGUGUGCGAGUCUCCAUGCCAUAUGCGAAAUGUGAAUGCAAAGGAAAUAAAUGGGGCAUGGCUGUGUAAGGAACUGUGUAUCCCACACGGACGAGCCACAUGCCCGUGUGGUAGACUAUAUGUACUUGGGCAGUUUCGAAUUUUGACUCGAUUUUUCAUAAAAAGACACACACUUAACUUUUUGAGACCUUAAGGGACUAUCCCACGUUCAAGUUUGAUCCAAUCACCUACAAGGGUCUUUUCAAUCGACAAAAUUCAAGAAUCAAAAACAAAUUUUCAAUAUUUGCGAAGGUUUUUGGUAAAACUAUUAAAAAAUUUAUAAUCGAAUUGAAGGAUUUAUUAAAACGUGAUAUCUUCCAGAUUUGAAAGAUCCUAAUUGACAGGGGAGGAGAUACUUAUUGAUCUUGAUAUAGAUUCAACAAUCUAAUGACUUGGAUUUCAACAAUUUGGAGAAGAAUAGUUUUUGAGGACUUCAUCAAAUUUUCCAAAAAUUUUAAGAGUAUUUUUCAGCAAAGUUUAAGGGCUUAGAAGAGUUUUGAAGUAGAGAAUUUUGAGAGAAAGCUAAGGUAUAAAUAGAGAGAGUUAGGGUUUCAAUUUGAUAGAAUAACAAAUAGGGAAUUUUAGUUAAAUUAGAAAAAGACUUAAAAAGUUGAGUUGAGGAAGAGUUUGAGGGCUUAUGGGCAAAUAGCCUAUUGGUCUAAAAAUCAUCAAAAGUAAGAGAGAGUGGCGUGGUUGGAACCUAAAUUUGUGAAGGGAAAAUUGGGAAAGCCUCAACCACUGAGCUAGUGCCCACAUUCAUGUUUAAAACACAGACAAAUACAUUCAUAAACCAUGUUACUUAGGUUCUAUAUGUGUAGAAAAAUUAAAGAGAUAAAAUCACAUUUAUAAAACUUGAACCUAAGUUCUCAAGACUUCCUCAUAGGCUUCUAACCAAUAAUGCUAUGUUUUAAAUCUUAAUAAUUCUAAGAAUUCUAACCCUUAAUUUUUAGGAUGUUACAGUAAAAAUUACAAUUUAAUUUUAACCCCUAAAAAAAUUUUCUGGCUUCACCCUUGAUUCGAUCAUCAUACUACCAUAAAAAACCUUUAGCAAAUAACCAAAAAAUGUAUCCAAUCAACAAAAGACCACCACUAAAUGAAAUAGCUACACCAUCUCCCCCUCAAACUCAACAACUCAUUCUCUCUCUCUCUCUCUCUCUCUUUGUAAGAUGCUUGAUUUCUUCACAAGUGUUAUAAUAGUCGAGCACAUUAUACUUCAAUUCUUUCUGCAAUUGCAAGUGGAGAUCCAUUAGCACAUAGCUCAUUAGAGUCUAAGUCUGCAUAUUCCUUAUCAAGACUUAGCAUUGACAUUGUGUUUUCCCUUCAACCAUUUAUUAAAAAACUUAAUCUUUGAAUCCUUAAUGAGCACAUUCUUUUGGCUUAACAGGAUUUGGAAGGUUAGUGAAGGGAAUGGAAGCAUAUGCCUCUUGUUCUUAAUCUCUACAUGCUUCACUAUUUCAUUAAAAAUAGGUUGCCCCAAAUAAAAAGGAAUAGAAUAGACUACCUUGUGAAGCAAUUUUUUCAUUCUUUUAUUACUUUUAUAGGAUAUCCUUAAUCUCUUUGGAAUAAAUCUAUUCUCAUAACCUUAUGGUAAUCAUUAUAUUUUCUUUCAUGAAAAGCUAAUUACUACCAAAUAAUAAUCAAAUCAUUUAUCACUAAAACAAAUGACUCGUGAUCAUGUUAACUUUAAUCUAUAAUGUAAUGCAAUUUAUCAUAAAUUGGGGUAUACUUCUCAUCCAUGUUUCUAAUAGUUGUUGGCCAUAGAAUGAUUAAACUUGAAAUAAUGCCCUUGAACAUAAACUUGCAUGUAUUUGUCUAUUAUUAGGUUCAAUGGUUGACUUCUUAGAAUAAAAUUCUAACACCACAACAUUGACAUAAGGCUUCACACAAGCUACUGAAUACAAUAAUCUCUGGUUCUCUAGUAAAACAUCAAUUUUAUGCUCUUAAAAAUCAAUCGUAUUGAGGUAUCUAUCAUUAAUGAAGCUUUUCUUUGCCAACAACUUCCUUUUGUCACAGUUAGUGUUUAUAAGCUUAGAAUUCUUCGGAACAAGAGUGAAGCCCACAUCCUUGAGCAUCUCUGCAACACCUAUCUUCUUGAGUCUCUUGUUUCUUUACUUCAAAGUCAAGGGCACAUUAGGCCUUUUGGUUAUAUUCUUGGUAGCUUGAGACAUGAGAGUAGAUAGAGGCAAAUUUUUAGGAUUUGUUCCCAUAAGGUAGUUCUUUCGUCAUAAUUACUUGCAUGUUUUAAACAAUACCAAAUUAAUAAAAUUUUUCACAUGAAUCAAUUUCAGUAAUAUUUGUAUAUAUUAUGUACUCAAAUAAUUUUAUACAUAAAAAGAAAAAUUAUUAAACGAAUAUUGGUUAAUUGAUUAUCUAAUGUUUACCUAAAUUAAGUGGCAUAACAAAUAACUUUUGUAAUGCAAAAGACAACUUAUAUUGGUAGAUAAUAUAAAUAAUCCGUAGUCCAUAGGUUCAUGAUUGAGCAAAUGACUUAUGUUAGGACUAUUAUGUCCUUCAUAAGUCCAAAUGAGGAGAUAACUUGUCUUGACUAUUGGAUCUAGAUUUACUCCCAAGAUAGAGACAUAGAUAUAAUUUUCUAGACUAGCAAUGCAUUGGAUUGUACCCAAGAUGAAUUAAUCCUAGAUCAUUUUAUCGAUUAACUCAAUUGUGAUGUUCGAAGUGUAACAUACCUAAAUCCUAAGUAAGUGAAACAUAUGCAUAACUUAUAUACUUUAAUGUUUUAGAAACCUAUGCAUCUCAAAGUAGUAAGUUGAAAGUUGGUAGUUGGGUAUAUAACAUAUGCAUGACAUUGCUUCACUUACAAAAGUAUAAUCCUAACUCAUUAAAUAAUAAAUUAUAUCCUCUCAUUAAAAUUGUAUGAUUUAUGAAAAUGGAACAUAUUCAUAGGUCAUUUGUCAGGAACAAAUGAUUUAAUUAUUACUAGCUUGAGUAAUAAGCAUUUUCAAUAUAGUAGAUACAAUGGUGACCAUAAUAUAAAAGUGAUCCAACUAGGCGAAAAAUUUAACUUUAAGGGAUCAUAGAUAUCCUAUGAGGGUAACACACAUAGGACAAGAUCAUUGACUAAAGCUUAAUAAUAUAAGUAACUUUCAUAAUGGUAUAUAAUUGAGAGUUUAGUCAUGGUACUUUUAAUGAUUUGAUUCCAUAAUUAAAUAUAUGCAUAAUUAAUAGAAGAAGAGUUAAAGUUAAUUACAAUUUAUUUUAGCCCUAAUUAUAUAUAUAUAUAUAUAUCAAAUCGGUCCCUCUACUAGCUUAUUACAACAUUGUACAGAUUGCAUAUGAAAACAUUGAACACAUAGAUAAAUCAAUUUUGGAGAAAUAAAUUGCAUGUAUUACUGUUUAUAAUAAUUGAACUUCUUGGAAGGCAAUAAAUGACCUAGGAUUAAUUUAAUUUAAUUUAAUUGAUUAUCAUUUAAUUGGAUGAAUAAAAUAGUUGAGUCUAAAAUAAAAUAGAUAAUUAAAUAAGUUUGCACAUAAAUUCUAAUAGGGUAAAAUCAUUAAGAUUUUAACAGAAUUAGAAUUGAAUUGUAUAAACUAUUUAAUUAUAUUAUUUAAUUUUAAUUAAUUAUAUUUUUAUUAGCGUAAACUACAUAAUUAGUCACUUGUGUAUAGUUUAAAUUAUAUUUUGGUCAUUAAACUUUAAAAAGUUACAAUAUGGUCUCUAAUAUUAUCAGUUUGUUAUAUUUAGGUCACAGUCAUUAAUGUAAUAUAAAGUUGACUUUAGACAAAAAAAUUAUGUCAAAUUGCAUGACUAGUCCCUAUACCUUUUCGUUUUAAGUAGUUUAAUUCUUUUUCUUUUAACUUUCCUUUCUCUUUCGUUUUAUUUUCUUUAUUUUGGCCUCAUCGUCAAGCAGAGUUUCAUUGAGAAUAGAGGCAGUGCGCUGGUAGGGUAUUAAUAGGUUCCUAGUUGAUCAAGAUGAUAAAUCGAACAUCAAUAUCAAAAUUGAAAAUAUUUAAAUAUUUUUUGUAAUAUUAUUAGCUUUUAUUUUGAAGUUAAAUUUUAUUUUUUUAAUUAUUUUUAGGUAGUUGAAUUUCUUCAAUUUGCUUUUAAUUUAUUAUAUAUAUUUAGAAUAAUAUGAUAGAUAUUCUCAAUUUUUUAUGGAAAUAGAUAUUCUAAGAUUAAUUACUUUUAAUUGGUUAUUUUUUUAUUAAUAAUUGUUUAAAUUGGACUAAAUUGUAAUUUUUGAAUUAAGUUUAACAAGUAAUAAUUAAUUUGAUAAUUUCAAUCAUUAAUAAAAUUUAAUAAAAAGAUAUUAACAGAUAAUAUUUAUUUUAAUUUAAAAAAUCUAUUAUUAUUAAUCAUAUAAGCUCUUUUUUAUAGAAUGCCUAAAACUACCCAUAACCUCUUCCCAAUUCAUAAAUAAAAGAAUAAUACGUUUCAGCACUAGAGGUGCUCAUGGGCCGGGCCGGGCCGGGUUCGGGCCGGGCCCAUUAAAAAUUUCGGCCCAUGUUCUAGGCCCGGGCCCGGCCCGGCCCGAAAUAUGGGCCUAAGAUUUUUCCCAGGCUCGACCCAGGAAAAAAUCUUAAGCCCGGGCCCGGCCUAUUUUUAUUUUAAAAUUUUUAAAAAUUUAAAAAGUAUUUUAAAAGUAUUUUAAAAUUUAAAAAAAAUUAAAAAAGUAUUUUAAAAAUAUUUUAAAAUUAAAAAAUUUAAAAAAGUAUUUUAAAAGUAUUUUAAAAUUUAAAAAAAUUAAAAAAGUAUGUAAAAAAUAUUUUAAAAUUUUAAAAAAGUAAAUAUAUUGCCCGGGCCGAAAAAGUGGUGCCCGAGGCCCGGUCUGUUUUCUAAAUGGGCCUCGUUUUUUGCCCAAGCCCAUAUUUCGGGACUAUAUUUUUACCCAAACCCUCCCAUAUUUCGGGCUGGCCGUCGGGCCGGGCCGGGCCGCCCGACCCAUGAGCACCUCUAUUCAGCACACUCGAACUCACAUUUUCCUGUAUUGACAACAAUGUCUAUGCCAAUUGAGUCUUUAUUAUUUUAAUAUUAUACAAUUACAUUAAUUAAAUUUUAAAGUUAUUUUAUUUUAAAAAUAUUUUAUAUAUUUGUAAUUAUAUUUAAACAUGAUUAGUUAUAUAAAAUAAAAUAUUUCAUAUAGUGGAGGGGCCAAAGUUCCAUUACAAAUUGCUAUUGUUGAAAAGGGAUCAAAUUCCCCUGUUCUUUCAAACCAAAAUGAUUAUAUAGUAUAAGAUUGUAGAGUGUGCUUAACAUUCUCCAAUUACUUCAACCAUCCCAUUAAUUUCUUCAAAAUUGCAUUAAACCACCCAAAAUUAAUCAAUAUGCUUACAAAGUUCAUUUUACCAUAUCAAGCAAAUUCCUCAUUCCACCUAAGUUCACUAUAUUCAGUGUGUUAAUUCCUUUUUCCAAAAAAAAGGAAUAAUAUCUUUUUGGCCCUCCAACUUUACAAAAAAGUUAUUUUAGCCCUUUAUUUAAUUUGUUAACUUUGUUGAUGUGGUAUACACGUGGAUUGUCAUGUUACCAAUUAAUAUUUUUUAUAUAUUAAUAAUUUUUAGUUUUUUAAAAUAAUUUUUUUGAAUUUUUAAAUUAAAAAAAUAAUUAAUUACUAACAUGGUAUCCACUUAGAAAUUCACAUGUAUGCGACUUUAGCAAAGUUAACAAACGUUAACUUUUCCAUCCAUUUUGGGGUGAAUUAACAAACAACACAAAUUUAAAAACUAAAAAAGACAAAAAGAAAAAUUAAAUGAAGGGCUAAAAUAAUUUUUUUUUUAUAAAAUUAGAGGAUGAAAUAAAUUAUUAUGCCUUUAAAAAAAAAUCUAAAAUAUACUCUCCUAUUCAAUUUUAUAUAUCCACUUGAUUGUAUAUUUGAUAAUUUAUAAUGCCACAAAAUCGAGUUACUUUUUCCAUUGUAGUAUAUUGAUUCGAUUUUGCAUUAGACUAUAUUUAAAAAGAUUAUGAUUUUCAAAAGAAUGACAUCUCUUUUCCAAUUUCAUUCGAUAGCUUUUAUACUUGCACAAUCUAUUAAGAUCUCCAAAUAUAAAAUUCCACUUUUUUUCACACACUACUAGUAGGAUUUUUAUUAACAUCUAGAAUUUUUUAAUAAUUUCUAAUUUUUUUAUUUUUUAUUAUGAUUUAUAAUAUUCAGUUUCUACGCCAUCAAUUUUCAUACCAGUUGCCAUGUUACCUUCUAUAUCAACACUUAACAGCCCGUUAGGGGCUUUGACAAAAAAAUUAAUUCAGUGAGCUCAAUUGAGUAUAAAUCAUAAUUCUUUUUUUUCUUUUUAAAUAUGUACAAAUCGUGAUUAAAUGAUUCAAAGAGAAGUUUAAUUGAUUUUUUAAUUAUUUCGAAGGACUUAUUUGACAUUUUAGCUUAAAAUUACAAAUCAUAAUUAAAUAAUUUUAACUAUAUUUAAUAUAAAAAAUAUUUUUACAUCAUAUAAUUAAUACAAAGUAACAUUACUCAAAAUAAAAACUAGCAUAUUUAGAUUGAUUAUUUUUAUCAUUCAAAUAUAGUGCUAAUAAAAAAAAUUUGUAAUAUAUGAUAAAUCAAAAUCUUCACUAUACAGGUUUUUUUUUUUUUUUUACCUUUUCUUUUCUUUUCUUAAUAGUCAAUCAACUCCACUAUUAUAAUAUAUUAGAUUAGGUUAUAUAAAUAUAUUAUUUCUAAAAUUUUGUAUAUGAAAUAUAAAGUUAUUUAUUGUCGGGUGUGCCUCGUAUUUUCGACUGAAUAGAUGGCAACGUCACGACGAGAAGUUUUCAGAUGUUGCGACGACGGACAACGUCAUGACAACGCAAAUGGGGAUGUUGUGACGAGGCAACGUAUACCCCACAUAAAUCAAGUUUCUUCUCUCAAUUAAAUUAUGAUUAUUCCAGAGAUAUUUUAGUAUGAUUAAACCUCUAAUUAGCCUAUUUAAAGGGGCCUUGUAUCCCUAGUUUGAGAGGUCAAUUAAGAGACAAUUAAAGAUAUAGUAGACGGCUUUUCUUUUUGGGGGUGACAAUAUGUAGUCGCAGAUGAGUUUUGGUGAAAGUUUUCGUGGUAACUAUGGAGAGAAUUUUGUUCCUGAGUUAGGGUUUUGUUUUCGAGGUUUGGGUUUGUACGUUUAGUAUAUUUAGGUUUAUUUUCUCCAUAUUUUACUCUCAUUUGUCUACUCAUUUAGUGAAAAGCCGAAGCCUCCUUUGCCCAUGAUUUUUACCCUCUUUGGAGGAGUUUUCCACAUAAAAUUUGUGUUCGAUUUUCUCUACCUUCUCUAUUUCGUUGCUUAUACGGGCAGAUCCCCAACACUUAUUAUUUAAAUUAUUAGAAAUUACUAUUUAAAGCUAAAGUAAUAUAAUUUCUUUUCUUUUUAUUUUUUGGUUAACGAAAACAUAAUAAUUUAAAUAUAAAGUAAUUCUUCAAUCUUUAAUAUGAUAAAAUCUUUUAAUAGAAUCAAAAUUUUUAUUUUUAAGUAUGAUAAAUUUUCUUAUCAAGUAAAUUUAUUUAAUUAAAUAUUUUAAUAAAAAUAAUAAAUAUUUAAAAUGAUAAAUUCUGUAAUAUACUGAAUAACAAAGAUUAUAUGCUCCAAACUCGUGUUUAUAUAAUAUAUAGGAGAGGGGUUCACUUACAUGAUGUAAAACUAAUUAAUUUCACACUAUUUUAGAUCGAAAUAAAUAAACGGUUGAGAUUAAAUUAAAACUUCUUUAUUUUAGGUUAAAACAUUUUAUGAAACCUUUUCCCUUUUGACUUCCCUAUUUAAUCUCCACCGUAAACUAAUUUAUAUUUUUUAUGCUAAUCAUUCCCUUUUCCCGAGAUAUUUGGCUUUUUGUUCUUUCAUUGAGAUCCAUUCAAUAUUUUGUUCAUCUUUUAAGAAACAAUUGCAAUCUAAUUUCAUUUUUCAUCAUAAUUUCUUUCAAUCUUUCAUGAAAGUUUUUUUUUUUUUUUUUUGCCAUUUGGAGAAACAAUUCCAAGCCAUGUAAUUGGUGCCAACAACGAUCUCCAACUUACAUGUCAUAUAAGUUAUUUUGUUCAAUCAUGAUUUCACAGUGGAACUAAAGAAGCAAAGUUAUCAUAUAAGUUGUUUUUGUACCGAUGGAAUGUUUUCCAGCUUCUUAUUCAGUACACAGUGUGAACUUUCUAUUAUUCAAACAUCGCCAAUCAUAGCUGUAUUAUAAGAUUUAAAUAAAAAAAAAUCAUGGUUAAUUUCAUGAAUGAAGUUCAGUAAAAUCUAUAUAUAUGCAUGCCAUGGGAUGAGUAAUGGAUGAGAAGUUAAGUUGACAUCCUAAUAUAUAAACAUGAAAAAGAUUUUUUUUUUUUAAAAAAGCAGAAGGUUUCUGUUAGGUUGAAAAAUUGUCAUGAAUGAGUUCUCGUGAUUCAAGAAAACAAUGGAAGUCUCAAUCAAAGAAAAUGCAAAGUAUAUGUUCAAGUUCAUCAGAUUUAACUUGGUGUUGUGAUCAUCACACUAAUUCGAUUAGUACUCAAAUCUAAUCAUAUCUAAUUUCACAAAUAAUUGACUAAAUUCUUUUAACAACAGGGUGAUUUGGGUAAUGGGGUAUAGUUUAGGUGCCAUUUUGAGUAACAAAAAAAAAAAAAGACGAAGAUUGGAACAAAUUCAGAUAAGUUUAAGCAAAGUAACAAGUUAAAAGAAUUUCAUAGAGACUAUUCUGAGAGUUCAAAAUGCCAAAAAUCUUCGCUAUUGUGAAGGACUCUCAUUUAUAGUGUCUCAAGAAUGGGAGCUACAAAGUUGAAAAUUGAUGGGAGUAAUGAAAUUAAUUUUCAAUUACAAUGACAUUAAUGAUUAAAAGGGAAUGGUGAAGGGCAUUGUUGGUGAUUGUAAUGGUGAGCAGUAAAGAAGAGCUCACUAUGUUUUCAAAAGAAGGGAGAAGCACUCAAUGUUACAAGAAAAGGUUAAGAGCAAACCCCUGAACUACCAUAUUCUGGGGUUACUUUAACUUCUACUUUGGUGAAGGAUACCAUGCGAAACAUCUUUCGUGGAAUAUCUUUUGAAAUGCAAUACAAUGGUUGUUCUUGAAUGAGAAUUAUUUAACUUGUUCAAAACAUGAGUUGCUCUCAAAAUAGUUGUUCUCAAUGUAGAAGUUGUCCCAAAUAAGAGUUCAUUUGUGGUGAUGCUUUUUUUGAAGAGCUUGUUUUGAAUAAUUACUUUUUUGGAAGAACAAAAUUUUUCAAAUUAGAAGUUGUUUCAAACAAUGAUUGUUCUAAACAUAGUUAUUUUUGAAACAUCAUUAUUCUAAAUAAGAGUUGUUCUCAAAUGACAACUACCUUGGAUGACAAUUGUUCUAAAUUGAAGCCUUGUUCUUAACAUAGUUAUUUCAAAUGUAACUAUUCUCAAACAACGGUUGUUCUGAACAACUAUUUUGAAUAAUUAUUUUUUUUUUAUUCUGCUGGAAAGAUAAUAAAUGAAACAACGUUGUCACUUAUUCCAAGCUUAGUAACACAAUUUCCUAAUAUAGUAGCCAAAAUCAAGUUCCAUUUUGUGAUUUAAACCUAUAAAAUAAAACUAAAUGAAUAGUAAACACCUUAAACAUUAUCGUUUGAAAUUGUUAUAAAUUUUUUUUUAUUGUUUUAUUGCACNNNNNNNNNNNNNNNNNNNNNNNNNNNNNNNNNNNNNNNNNNNNNNNNNNNNNNNNNNNNNNNNNNNNNNNNNNNNNNNNNNNNNNNNNNNNNNNNNNNNNNNNNNNNNNNNNNNNNNNNNNNNNNNNNNNNNNNNNNNNNNNNNNNNNNNNNNNNNNNNNNNNNNNNNNNNNNNNNNNNNNNNNNNNNNNNNNNNNNNNNNNNNNNNNNNNNNNNNNNNNNNNNNNNNNNNNNNNNNNNNNNNNNNNNNNNNNNNNNNNNNNNNNNNNNNNNNNNNNNNNNNNNNNNNNNNNNNNNNNNNNNNNNNNNNNNNNNNNNNNNNNNNNNNNNNNNNNNNNNNNNNNNNNNNNNNNNNNNNNNNNNNNNNNNNNNNNNNNNNNNNNNNNNNNNNNNNNNNNNNNNNNNNNNNNNNNNNNNNNNNNNNNNNNNNNNNNNNNNNNNNNNNNNNNNNNNNNNNNNNNNNNNNNNNNNNNNNNNNNNNNNNNNNNNNNNNNNNNNNNGUGCAAAUGAUUGCAAAUAUGGGAAACAACAGCACCCAAAUUCCCUUAAAUGAUUAUAUGUAGGCUCACGACUAUGAAGAACUUAGUAGGGAGACUGCCAUUUUAGGACUGGGUGGGUAGACGAUUUAUGAGAUGAACAACACUACAAAAGGCAUAAUCCGAGUAAUCCAUGGGCAAAUUGGCUUGAGCUAAGAGAGUAAGACCAGUUUCAACAACGUGUCUAUGUUUUGCUUAGCAACUCCGUUUACACUACCACAUGGUCGUGUCUUACGCAUAGCCGCACCAUCGUUAGACACACGGUUAUGUCUCACACACGACCAACCAUACGACCAAGCACACACCCGUGUGGCGUUGACAAAAUGCAAUUUUGACUUUCACCAAAGCUUGAUUUCGUGUAUAGGGUACAUACCUGGUACCGUUUUGAUGCAAAACCACUCCCAAGAUCACCAGCACCUAAAAAUAGAUUACAUAACACCAUUUUAGCAAUCAAAUUACGAAUCAACACACAACCCAAAACAACGCAUGCACUUACCAUUGUCACGAACAGAUACUAUCACGAUUGAAACUGUUGGAGCAAAAUUCACAGGUUCACUGUCUACUCCUACGCAAUACGCACACAGAAAUCAACUUUCCCAUUUCACACCGUUACGAAAAUUCAACUAAAAAGAAGAGGAAACUAAUCGAUUACACUUACCCAUACGAACGGAAAAAAAAACAACGAUUAAUGGAUUCCCCAAGAAAGUCAAUGGAUUGUUUGAUCAGGAAUAAAAAGUAAAGACGAAGCAAAAAUAAAGUAUAAAGCAAAGAGGAGAAGGGAAACUAGCGUUAAAGUUUGAAAGAGAGAAAAAAGAAUUAAUUUCAUCUAAUUUGAAACACUCCCAGUCCAACACACUCCCACAACCACUAACCACCAAAUCCCCUAAAAAUCGUCCAUUACCCUCAUCCACUAUCAGAAUUUCAACUCCAUCCAAUUUCACCACACAAUCGAUACACAUAGAAGCAAAAAUUACAUCCAUCGCUUGCACAAGGAUUCAAACACAAGAUCUCUAACACACUGACUCCUUUACCACUCAAACCAGCAGAUCAUUCUAAUAUGGAUUAACAAAUAAUUUUAUAUAAGCCCACUCAACAAGGGAAGGGCUUAGAUCUAAAAUAGCAAAGUUUUGCCAAAAUGAGAACUGAACUCAAGACUUCUCACACUCCCAGAACACUUAACCACUAAAACAAAUACUCAUUUGCGUCAAAUAUUUAUGGAAACAGGAAUACAUUAAUCAGGGCGUUACAUAUUUUGUAAGUCUUGUAAGUAAUACAUGAUAUCACAUAUACUAACAAGUGGUGCUUAUUUGGCUAUUAUGCUAUAUUUGUUGACGAAAGGAAGAACAGUUAGUGAAUAUUUUUCAUAUGGGGAGGAGUAGAGUUGUUUAUGAGUUGGGUUUGGUCCUAACAGAAUUUUAGGUUUGAUUGUUAGGUUUGGUCCGUAAAAUGGGUCUAAAUUUUGUUUAAGUUCAAUAUGAAUAAAAUUAAAAUUUGAAUCCGGCCUAGGCCGUGUUAAUUUUUUAUAUAAUACAUCAAAUAUACUAAAAAUAUUAAAAUAAAUGUUUCUCAACAAAUGAAAAUAAAUUAAAAAAAUCUUUAUACUUAAAACAAUAUUAGGAUAAGUGUAACUUAACAAGCAAAUGUCUCUAAAAUAGCAGGAAAAUUAACAAUAAAACAAUUGUUAUAAUAUCCAAAUAUUAAUAAUAAAUAGUAGUAACAUAAUAGUGAAUGAUAGUAAAACAACGGAAAAAAGUGGGAAAACAACAACGAUUAUUGAAAAUUCUGGUUGGGCCAAAGUAAAAAAAAAAUCAUAGUUGAGACUUAUUCUUUUUGCUCAAAUCUAUUUUUAAGCUUAUAUUUUUGUUCAAAAUUAUUUAUUUUUCGGGUCGGCAGAUCCAACCCAUGAACAACUCCAGAGUUAUUAUGAUUAUAUGAAUUGGAUUAAAUUAUGAUUUUAUUUGACUAAAAACCCUCCUAAAACUUCCUAAAACUUCCAUAAUAAAUUGUUAUUCUUAUGGAAAGAAGAACCAAUGAACCUAUAAAAGCACAUGCUGGAUGGAACAAAACACAACAAAGUAAUGAAUUUAUGGCAGAAAAUAUAACAUGGUAAAGAGAACAAGGAAACAUGUGAAAUGAUCUGUAAGCUGAAAAUGGAAUUACUCCCACUUUAAAUAAUAAGUCAACCAAUUUUUAUCCCCUUUUCUUGAGGGGGGGAGGGGGGGGGGGGCGGUUGUGAUUUGGUUUCUAAAUAAUUAUGAUUAAAGUAAUAAAAUUUGGCAAAAUUAACUUUCCAAUCUCUCUUAAUUUUAGAUUUGAGCAAAUCAGUCCUUUUAAAAAAAUUUGAAAUAAUUUAAUUUUUUGUCAAUUUCAGAGUGAGCAGCUCAAGACAAUUAAUUCCAGUGUUAAUGUUUUUCAUAAAUUUUACAUAAUUUUGAUUUGUAUAAUAAUAAAUUAGCUCUCAGUGUUUAUAUAUCCUGUAUAAAUGUUACAGAUUAAAUUUGUUAAAUUAAGACCAAAUUAACAAAAUGUAUAAUCGAAAUUGAGAGAUAUGAAAAAGAUAUUUUUACUUUAAAGUGUCUAUUAAUAUUAUACUAUUUAAUUUCAAUUUAAUAUAAUAUAAAUAUAAUACAUAUUUGCAAAUUUUAAAAUUUAAGGAAAGGGUAUUAAAUUAUGCAAUGGGGAUAUAAUACAAAAAAAAUUAAAGUUAAAAUAUGUUAUAGGUUUUACGUAAUCUUCAUAAAUUUAGAAUUUAAUCUAUAUAUUUUUAUUUUUAGGAAUUCAGUCCCUCUAUUUUAAGAUUUUAAAUUUAAAAUCCAAUUGUUGGACACUAACAAAUUUUUUUUUUGUUAAAUUUGUGGGUAUGACAUUUUGAAAUAAUAAUAAUAACUCACUUGGUAGCAAUGUAACUAAAAUAAUGGCAUUAUAAUGAACUUGAAUUUAAUAAAAUAAUUUUAACAGUUUAGGCCUAAAUUUCGAAAUCUAUAAAGUAGAGAAAUUGAAUUCUUAAAAAUAAAAGUAUAGAGACUAAUUUCAAAUUUGUGAAGAGUAUAAAGGCUUGUGGCAUAUUUUAACCAAAUAAAGUUAUAUAAUAAAAUAGGCUAAAAGGGUCUUAAAAGCCCAUGAACUUUUCCAAAAAAAAAUCAAUUAAGCCCCUGCACUUUUUUGCACCCAAUUAAGCCAUUGAACAUUAAAAUUAACAACCAAAGAUGUUGUUUUUCUAGGUAUUUUCACUACGUUGCAAGCCAAGAUUGUGUCUAAUAGCGAAAAUUGAUUUUUUUUAUAUUUAAUAUCAUUAACAAAUAAUAGAAAAUUAUAAAAAUACAUUAAAGUUAAUAAUUUCUAUGUUUUAAAAAUUCAUAAUUGUUACAAUUUUUUUUAUAUUUUUCAUAAUUUAUCUAAUUUUUUAUUUUUAAAUAUUUUUAAUUUUUUGUAAGUUUAAUUAUUUUUAUAUUUUUUUUGCACUUUGAUAUUUUUAUAUAUUUUUAAAACUUUUACUAAUUUUAAAUAUAUAAUACCAAUUUUAUCAUGUGGUACAAUCCUAACGUGCUAUGUGACAAAAACACGUAAAGAAAAUUAUUGUCGUUACUCUAUAGUGGUUGAUUGUUAGCUUUAACGAUCGGAGAGCCUAAAUAAUAGUAAUUUUAACAUUCAAGAAUGAAAAAAGAAAUAUAAGAUAGGUUGAAGGAAUUUGAAGAGUGUUUAGCAAAUCAAAGAUUUUUAGAGUGUGAUUAAAAAAGAGAGGCGUGAAAUGAGGUACUCCGGGGUGAAAGCGUGUGGGUUUGGACGUCGUAUUUGAUGCCGGAAAACAGGAUCGGCUUCACGUGUUCUUACAACAUUUCAUGCCUCCAACCUUUGACUCUCUUCACGAUUCUAUUUCCACCUACAAUAGCUAGCUGUCUGCUUUGCUAGAUUUCUGCUUUCAUUAAAAAACCCCAUUUCUCCUUGACUUGACUUCAAACCUUUUUAUUAUUAUACUUCCACUUCCCUUCUAUUCUACUAUUUUUAUUUUUAUAUUAUUUAAUUAAUUAAAGCUAUUUUCAUUUAUAUUUAAUUAUAAAUGUAUAUUGUAUUAAUAAAACUAAAAAUACCACACACUGAUUUUUUUAUAUUACAUUUUAAAAAAAAAGUUUUUAAGCAGGGUCCAAGCCAACAAAUUUAUAGCGAAGAACUGAAUUUAAAUAGUGAUUUUCUAGAGGGACCAAAACAUAAAUUUUAUUAUUUUAUUAGUUAUAAGAUGCUAAAAUCUAAUUUUCCUAAUUAAGGACAGUUAAGGCCCCUAUCGGCCCGCUGCCGCUCCUGCUUCUAAUAAUAAUAAUAAUAAUAAUAAUAAUAAUUUGAUUUUGGCUUUUUAUAUGACAAUAUGAUCCCAAAGUCUAUUGACCCUAAUUUUUAUCUCAAUUGAACCAAUCAAGGAGACACAUUUGACGGUAGACUUCUUUAUUAAUAUAUAUAUAUAUAUACAUUCCCUACUUGAUGUGGGUAUAUCGAUGUCAUGUGAACACUUAAAUUCAAUCAUUCCUCAAUUAUUUCAUAUAAUUUUCGAAAUAAAGGUGUUUGUGAGAAUAAUAAGAGUAUAAUGGGAAAUUUAGUAAUUUUUAAAUUAAUUUUUGACGUGAUAUAGAAGAUAAAUAGUGUUAUUUUAAACAUUACGUAUAUGUGAACGGUCACACAAGUUGUCACGCUAAUAUUGCUAAAAAACGUAAGGGAGAAUAUUUGGUGUACUGUUGGUGAAUAAUAACAUGACACCUCAUCAUUAAAUAAAACAAAAAAAAAAUAGUGAAGUACUUAUAAAUGAAUACUGAUAACUUUACUUAAACAUAAUUAAUUAUAAAUAAAUACUAAAAUCUUGAAACUUAAACUCUAGACUCUAGACCCUUAAUAUGAUAGUUGUUAAUAUUUAUUUAUAAUAGUUACGAUUAAUGUUUAAUGUUCACCGCCCUAGAUGUGGUCUGGGCUCAAGUCACGCUAGUCAUGUUAAUGGUUCAGACUUUCUCCUAUUAUUGUAAUUCACAAAAAAGAAAAUUAUGUUUAAAAAAUUAUUGGUAUUUAUUUACAAGUCGUCCAUAUUUUUGUUUAAUUAAUGAUGUUGUGUCACAUUAUUAUUCACUAAUGGUGCAUGAAGCUUACGCACUAACCGUGCAUUAAAUAUUAUCCCAAAAAAUAAUAUUUUAAUCAAUAUUUUUUUUUGAAAAAAAAGUGAUUUAAUUCUUUUUAAAAGGUUAAUAAUCAAAUUUAACUCAAAAAAAAAUCAAAUUAACAAGAGAUGUAAAAAUUGAGAGUCGAAUUUAUCAUUAUGCAAUAAUAUAAAAUAUAAAAACUUUGUUUUUACUGAUACUUAAAUAUUUUCACCAUUAACUUAAAAAGAUAUCCAAAAUAUUAAAUAUAAAAAAUAAUUUAAUAAGUAAACAGUAAUCUAAAUCAUGUUAAGUCAAAACUAAAAAUCCUAUCUUAUACAAAAUGGUUUUAUUAAAAGCGAUAGCCAUGAACUCCGAAAUGAUUAAUAUUCAUGACAUAAUAUAGAAAAAAAAUAAAAUGAUAUUAUUUUUUGGUGUUUGUAAUUUUGUUAAGAAACCCUAAAAUUGGAUGCUUAAUUUGAUGUUUUUAAAGAUAAUAUAUUAUAUUUAGGUUAGUAUUUGGUAUAUUGGUGUAUUUUUUUUUUAAUUUUACAAGUAGAUUUUUAAAAUUACUAGGUGUCCCAUUUAUUUUAUAUACUUAUUUAAUUUUUUAAUAUUUUAUAGGAUACUUAUUACUAUUGUAAGUCUAUUUAUGAAGUCUAUAAACUUCACUAAUAAUAUAUAAAAUAUUUUCCUUAUAUUUAAUAAUUUAUUUUGAUACAAGCAUUUAAAAUUUAUGAUAAAAGAAAUUAAGUGCAGUUAUUAUUAGGCUAUUUAAAAAAUUAGGACGGCUUAGAUGCAGAUCUUACUGUCAAUUCAAAACUACAUUAAUUAAGCUUAAUCUUUUUCCUGAUUUCAUUGGUCAAACAUUUAAUGGCAUAUUAACAAGAAUCUAAUUCACUUAUACCUACUUAACCCAUUAAACAGACCCUUUUAGCCCUAUCUAUAUUUAUAUAUACAAUUUGGUGAUUUCUAUCUAUAUUUAUAUAUACAAUUUGGUGAUUUUUACAGUUCGUGGUUGUCGAAACUAAAUUCCCUUAUUAAGAGUGUAAUAUAACUUACCAUUAAAUAUAAUACAUAUAUAUGUAUUCAAAUAACUCAACCUUUUUAUUGUAUAUGUGAGUGUGACUUUUAUAUUUGAAUAACAUGGCUUUCCUUCCCCCUUAAAUCAUGGAGAAAUCUAGUAUAAAUAUGCAGCUUAAAACACCCACCCUUAGCUUACACUCUUUUGUGCAAACAUUUCCCUUCCAUUUGAAAAAUAAUGGCUUCUAACACUCUCAAGCUCAUUGCCAUGCUCUCCCUUACUAUUUCAGUCCUCUUAUCUUUGUAUCCUCACUCAACCUUCUCAUUCGAAAUGGAGGAUUUCGACGAUGAGGAGGAAUACGUGCCUGAUGAACCUGUCAUCAUCCCCAACCUUCGAUCGAGAAGCCGGUUCUUGAAAACCUCACCCAAGAAAGAUAAGAUUAGGAAAGGUGCACAUUGCGAGCCCGACCCUUAUCACAACAUAUGCAAUGGCCUUUCGGUGAACAACGGGACCGGCAUAUUGUAUUGCUGCAAGACGCAUUGUCGUAAUGUGCUCCGUGAUUGGAACAACUGCGGUGAAUGCGGCCACCGGUGCAAGUUCGGGGAACGUUGCUGCGGUGGGGGUUUGUACGGAUGUUGUUUACAAUGUUAACCAUUGUGGCAAGUGUGACAAGCAGUGUUCGCCGGGAGUUCAGUGUGACUUUGGGUAUUGUGGUUAUGCUUAGAUUUAAGUAUUUAUAAUGAUUUUUAUCAAAAUAUAUUGGCAAAUUUACUUGGGGCUGUUUUGGUUAUGAAUAACACUUCGUUAUCGAUAUAUUUUUGUAUAAUGAGGGGAAGGAUAUAUGUAGAUUAUACACAUAUAUAUUUAUGUAAAAACGAGUUUUAUACGGUGGAUCUUGAGCUUGUUGUAAUUGAUUUUAGCCAUUGUUUUUAUAUACAUUAUUCGAAUUUUAUAUACGAUAGUUUCAUUUUUGAGAAGUUUUCAAACAAUUUUAAGUACUUAAAAUUUUCUGUAAGGUUGCUAUUGAGUCUUAAUUCGACUGGUAUAGAUAUUAUUGUUAAUAUGAGAAAAUUUGUGUUCGAAUGUGCUAAAAUGAAAGUUCAAGUAAUAAGUCUCUAUAUUAUGUAUUGUUAGAGGAUUUAGUUUUGGUUAAAUUCUGUUAUUAGUCUUUGUACUUUAUGAAAGUUAUGAAUUUAGUCAUUGUAUUUUAAUUUGAUUAAGUUUAGUCACUCUACUUUUUGAAUUAGUCAAAUUUAGUCCCUAUACUUUUCAAAAUUUGAAAUUUUAAUCAUGACCCAAACAAUAGCAAUUAAAUCUGUUUGGUUAAAUUCAAUUACUAGUCUUGUAAUAUGCGUUCAAUUGUAGAUUUAGCCCAUAUUCUCCAAUUGGAUCAUUCUAAGUCUCUAUAUUUCUCGAAUUUUGAAAGUUUAGUGUUGAUACAAAUGACAAUCGUUAAUUCAUUAACAUGAUUUUAGUGACUAAUAUGUGGAAUAAUAAGCUGACAUGACAUUACACAUAUGAUAAUAUAUUUACCACAUCAGGUUUUGUAAAUAACAAAACAUAACUUAAUGAAUUUAAUAUGUAUUGUUUGGUGAAGACUAAAAUUUUAAAAUUUAAAAAGUAUAGAGACUAAAUUGACAAAAAAUAUAGCUAUUAAACCCAUAAGUUUUUUUUGUAAAAUAUAAGGACUAAUAGAAAAUUUUAAAAAGUAUAGGCAGAACGAAUUUGUAAUUCUAUUGGCAGAUAAACUAACCAUGUAACAUCAUUAGUGGCUGUAGCCAGACUUCGAUAUUCAACUUCUGUUGUCGACCGAGAAACAACUUGUUACCUUUUAGAACACCACAAAACAGGCGUAUCACCAAAAUACACACAAUAUCCUGUUGUAGACCAGCGAUCAUCAAAAUCCAAUCCCUAGUUAGCAUUAGUAUAACCGAUGAGAGAAAGUUUGUUGGAUGGACGAAAAAUUAACCCAUGAUCAAUAGUCCCACGUAAAUAUCGUAAGAUUCUUUUUAAAGCCACCAAAUGAACUAAAGUAGGUGCAUGCAUAAAUUGGCACACAUGAUCUACAACAUAAGCAAUAUUAGGUCGGGUCAGAACCAUAUAUUGAAGUGCACCGACAAGGCUUUGAUAUUCUGUAGGAUCAACAAGACAAUCGCAUUCAUCCUUAGAGAACGCAGACGAACUGACCAUUGGUGUGUGGACACUUUUUGCAUUAGUCAGGGAACUUCUGUCAAGUAGAUCCCAGAUGUGCUUGCACUGGCAUAAAUGAAAACUUCCAGUGGAGGAUCGAGUGACUUCAAUGCCUAAGAAGUAAUGAAUGUCUCUCAUAUCCUUUAAGGAAAACUCAUUAUGUAACUACUUAACAAAUCUAUCUGUACUAUCAGCCAUACUCCCCGUAAUAAUAAUAUCAUCCACAUAAACUAGAACAUAGAUGAUGGACUCGGUCGUUACUCGAACAAAUAGAGACGUAUUAGAUUUGGACACGAUAAACCCGAUAGAAACAAGAAAUCUUUUCAAUUUAUCAAACCACACACGUGGAGCUUGACGCAACUCGUAUAAUGCCUUCGUCAGACGACAUACCAAGUGCUUACCAGUUGGACCAGACUGAACAUAACCUAGAGGUUGUUGCAUGAACACUUCGUCAGUGAUAUCACCAUUUAAAAAGGCAUUGUUGACAUCAACCUGAUGAAGUUGCCAACCAUGAGAGAUAGUAAUCGAGAGUAUGGUUCUAAUAGUAGCAGGUUUGAUCAUGGAUUGAAAGUUUUUUUGAAAUCACACCCGAAAACAUGGAAACACCCCUUUGCUACCAACCAAGCCUUACGUAGAGCAAUAGUCCUAUCAGGAUUUUUUUUUACUUUGAAGAGCCACUUACACCAUAUCACCUUUCGUCUAUGAGGUAGAGAAACAAGUUCCCAAGUGGAGUUAGCUAUGAAAGCAUCAAAUUCGGCUUGGACUACUUAUUGCUACUCUGGAUCAGCAAGUGCUUCUUCAACCGUGCGAGGUUCAUAGUCAACAACUUCAACAGACAGAGCCUUAGGUUUAAAAAUCCCAUCUUUAGACCUAGUAAUCAUAGUAUAAGUAUUUCUCAGCAGAACAGUCAGUGGAGUCGAGGAACUAUGCUGGGAGUAGACAGACCACCUACAUCUGUUGAGGUUGAAAGCUAGAACUCCUCAUGAGCAGACCCUAACUCAGUCGAUGAACCACCUGAUGUAGACUGUAUGAAACUAUAGUGAGGAGGAGAAGAUGUCAUACCCGUGGGACUCUCGAAUGUUGUAACAGGGCGGGAGGCAGUAGACUGAAUAAGAGGAACAUAUGUUGAGACACAUGAACUAGGUUUAACACGGUCCAUGUUAGAUGAAAAAAAAGAACCGUUGUUCAUUAAAAUCAACAUGACGAGAAACAAUUAUUUUACCAUCUGGUGUAAGACAAUGAUAACCUUUAUGUUGGGAACUAUACCCUAAAAAUGUAUAUGGCUGAGAACGAAAAUCUACUUGUGACGUGCAAAUGAUUGCAAAUAUGGGAAACAACAGCACCCAAAUUCCCUUAAAUGAUUAUAUGUAGGCUCACGACUAUGAAGAACUUAGUAGGGAGACUGCCAUUUUAGGACUGGGGUGGGUAGACGAUUUAUGAGAUGAACAACACUACAAAAGGCAUAAUCCGAGUAAUCCAUGGGCAAAUUGGCUUGAGCUAAGAGAGUAAGACCAGUUUCAACAACGUGUCUAUGUUUUGCUUAGCAACUCCGUUUACACUACCACAUGGUCGUGUCUUACGCAUAGCCGCACCAUCGUUAGACACACGGUUAUGUCUCACACACGACCAACCAUACGACCAAGCACACACCCGUGUGGCGUUGACAAAAUGCAAUUUUGACUUUCACCAAAGCUUGAUUUCGUGUAUAGGGUACAUACCUGGUACCGUUUUGAUGCAAAACCACUCCCAAGAUCACCAGCACCUAAAAAUAGAUUACAUAACACCAUUUUAGCAAUCAAAUUACGAAUCAACAACACAACCCAAAACAACGCAUGCACUUACCAUUGUCACGAACAGAUACUAUCACGAUUGAAACUGUUGGAGCAAAAUUCACAGGUUCACUGUCUACUCCUACGCAAUACGCACACAGAAAAUCAACUUUCCCAUUUCACACCGUUACGAAAAUUCAACUAAAAAGAAGAGGAAACUAAUCGAUUACACUUACCCAUACGAACGGAAAAAAAACAACGAUUAAUGGAUUCCCCAAGAAAAGGUCAAUGGAUUGUUUGAUCAGGAAUAAAAAGUAAAGACGAAGCAAAAAUAAAGUAUAAAGCAAAGAGGAGAAGGGAAACUAGCGUUAGAAAGUUUGAAAGAGAGAGAAAAAGAAUUAAUUUCAUCUAAUUUGAAACACUCCCAGUCCAACACAACUCCCACAACCCACUAACCACCAAAUCCCCUAAAAAUCGUCCAUUACCCUCAUCCACUAUCAGAAUUUCAACUCCAUCCAAAUUUCACCACACAAUCGAUACACAUAGAAGCAAAAAUUACAUCCAUCGCUUGCACAAGGAUUCAAACACAAGAUCUCUAACACACUGACUCCUUUACCACUCAAACCAGCAAGAUCAUUCUAAUAUGGAUUAACAAAUAAUUUUAUAUAAGCCCACUCAACAAGGGAAGGGCUUAGAUCUAAAAUAGCAAAGUUUUGCCAAAAAUGAGAACUGAACUCAAGACUUCUCACACUCCCAGAACACUUAACCACUAAAACAAAUACUCAUUUGCGUCAAAUAUUUAUGGAAACAGGAAUACAUUAAUCAGGGCGUUACAUAUUUUGUAAGUCUUGUAAGUAAUACAUGAUAUCACAUAUACUAACAAGUGGUGCUUAUUUGGCUAUUAUGCUAUAUUUGUUGACGAAAGGAAGAACAGUUAGUGAAUAUUUUUCAUAUGGGGAGGAGUAGAGUUGUUUAUGAGUUGGGUUUGGUCCUAACAGAAUUUUAGGUUUGAUUGUUAGGUUUGGUCCGUAAAAUGGGUCUAAAUUUUUGUUUAAGUUCAAUAUGAAUAAAAAUGUUAAAAUUUGAAUCCGGCCUAGGCCGUGUUAAUUUUUUAUAUAAUACAUCAAAUAUACUAAAAAUAUUAAAAUAAAUGUUUCUCAACAAAAUGAAAAUAAAUUAAAAAAAAUCUUUAUACUUAAACAAUAUUAGGAUAAGUGUAACUUAACAAGCAAAUGUCUCUAAAAUAGCAGGAAAAUUAACAAUAAAACAAUUGUUAUAUAAUAUCCAAAUAUUAAUAAUAAAAUAGUAGUAACAUAAUAGUGAAUGAUAGUAAAACAACGGAAAAAAGUGGGAAAACAACAACGAUUAUUGAAAAUUCUGGUUGGGCCAAAGUAAAAAAAAAAUCAUAGUUGAGACUUAUUCUUUUUGCUCAAAUCUAUUUUUAAGCUUAUAUUUUUGUUCAAAAUUAUUUAUUUUUCGGGUCGGCAGAUCCAACCCAUGAACAACUCCAGAGUUAUUAUGAUUAUAUGAAUUGGAUUAAAUUAUGAUUUUAUUUGACUAAAAACCCUCCUAAAACUUCCAUAAAUAAAUUGUUAUUCUUAUGGAAAGAAGAAACAAUGAACCUAUAAAAGCACAUGCUGGAUGGAACAAAACACAACAAAGUAAUGAAUUUAUGGCAGAAAAUAUAACAUGGUAAAGAGAACAAGGAAACAUGUGAAAUGAUCUGUAAGCUGAAAAUGGAAUUACUCCCACUUUAAAUAAUAAGUCAACCAAUUUUUUAUCCCCUUUUCUUGAGGGGGGGAGGGGGGGGGCGGUUGUGAUUUGGUUUCUAAAUUAAUUAUGAUUAAAGUAAUAAAAUUUGGCAAAAUUAACUUUCCAAUCUCUCUUAAUUUUUAGAUUUGAGCAAAUCAGUCCUUUUAAAAAAAUUUGAAAUAAUUUAAUUUUUUGUCAAUUUCAGAGUGAGCAGCUCAAGACAAUUAAUUCCAGUGUUAAUGUUUUUCAUAAAUUUUACAUAAUUUUGAUUUGUAUAAUAAUAAAAUUAGCUCUCAGUGUUUAUAUAUCCUGUAUAAAUGUUACAGAUUAAAUUUGUUAAAUUAAGACCAAAUUAACAAAAUGUAUAAUCGAAAUUGAGAGAUAUGAAAAAGAUAUUUUUACUUUAAAGUGUCUAUUAAUAUUAUACUAUUUUAAUUUCAAUUUAAUAUAAUAUAAAUAUAAUACAUAUUUGCAAAUUUUAAAAUUUAAGGAAAGGGUAUUAAAUUAUGCAAUGGGGAUAUAAUACAAAAAAAAAUUAAAGUUAAAAUAUGUUAUAGGUUUACGUAAUCUUCAUAAAUUUAGAAUUUAAUCUAUAUAUUUUUAUUUUUAGGAAUUCAGUCCCUCUAUUUUUAAGAUUUUAAAUUUAAAAUCCAAUUGUUGACACUAACAAAUUUUUUUUUGUUAAAUUUGUGGGUAUGACAUUUUGAAAUAAUAAUAAUAACUCACUUGGUAGCAAUGUAACUAAAAUAAUGGCAUUAUAAUGAACUUGAAUUUAAUAAAAUAAUUUUAACAGUUUAGGCCUAAAUUUCGAAAUCUAUAAAGUAGAGAAAUUGAAUUCUUAAAAAUAAAAGUAUAGAGACUAAAUUUCAAAUUUGUGAAGAGUAUAAAGGCUUGUGGCAUAUUUUAACCAAAUAAAGUUAUAUAAUAAAAUAGGCUAAAAGGGUCUUAAAAGCCCAUGAACUUUUCCAAAAAAAAAUCAAUUAAGCCCCUGCACUUUUUUGCACCCAAUUAAGCCAUUGAACAUUAAAAUUAACAACCAAAGAUGUUGUUUUUCUAGGUAUUUUCACUACGUUGCAAGCCAAGAUUGUGUCUAAUAGCGAAAAUUGAUUUUUUUUAUAUUUAAUAUCAUUAACAAAUAAUAGAAAAUUAUAAAAAUACAUUAAAGUUAAUAAUUUCUAUGUUUUAAAAAUUCAUAAUUGUUACAAUUUUUUUUAUAUUUUUCAUAAUUUAUCUAAUUUUUUAUUUUUAAAUAUUUUUAAUUUUUUGUAAGUUUAAUUAUUUUUAUAUUUUUUUUGCACUUUGAUAUUUUUAUAUAUUUUUAAAACUUUUACUAAUUUUAAAUAUAUAAUACCAAUUUUAUCAUGUGGUACAAUCCUAACGUGCUAUGUGACAAAAACACGUAAAGAAAAUUAUUGUCGUUACUCUAUAGUGGUUGAUUGUUAGCUUUAACGAUCGGAGAGCCUAAAUAAUAGUAAUUUUAACAUUCAAGAAUGAAAAAAGAAAUAUAAGAUAGGUUGAAGGAAUUUGAAGAGUGUUUAGCAAAUCAAAGAUUUUUAGAGUGUGAUUAAAAAAGAGAGGCGUGAAAUGAGGUACUCCGGGGUGAAAGCGUGUGGGUUUGGACGUCGUAUUUGAUGCCGGAAAACAGGAUCGGCUUCACGUGUUCUUACAACAUUUCAUGCCUCCAACCUUUGACUCUCUUCACGAUUCUAUUUCCACCUACAAUAGCUAGCUGUCUGCUUUGCUAGAUUUCUGCUUUCAUUAAAAAACCCCAUUUCUCCUUGACUUGACUUCAAACCUUUUUAUUAUUAUACUUCCACUUCCCUUCUAUUCUACUAUUUUUAUUUUUAUAUUAUUUAAUUAAUUAAAGCUAUUUUCAUUUAUAUUUAAUUAUAAAUGUAUAUUGUAUUAAUAAAACUAAAAAUACCACACACUGAUUUUUUUAUAUUACAUUUUAAAAAAAAAGUUUUUAAGCAGGGUCCAAGCCAACAAAUUUAUAGCGAAGAACUGAAUUUAAAUAGUGAUUUUCUAGAGGGACCAAAACAUAAAUUUUAUUAUUUUAUUAGUUAUAAGAUGCUAAAAUCUAAUUUUCCUAAAUUAAGGACAGUUAAGGCCCCUAUCGGCCCGCUGCCGCUCCUGCUUCUAAUAAUAAUAAUAAUAAUAAUAAUAAUAAUUUGAUUUUGGCUUUUUAUAUGACAAUAUGAUCCCAAAGUCUAUUGACCCUAAUUUUUAUCUCAAUUGAACCAAUCAAGGAGACACAUUUGACGGUAGACUUCUUUAAUUAAUAUAUAUAUAUAUAUACAUUCCCUACUUGAUGUGGGUAUAUCGAUGUCAUGUGAACACUUAAAUUCAAUCAUUCCUCAAUUAUUUCAUAUAAUUUUCGAAAUAAAGGUGUUUGUGAGAAUAAUAAGAGUAUAAUGGGAAAUUUAGUAAUUUUUAAAUUAAUUUUUGACGUGAUAUAGAAGAUAAAUAGUGUUAUUUUAACAUUACGUAUAUGUGAACGGUCACACAAGUUGUCACGCUAAUAUUGCUAAAAAAACGUAAGGGAGAAUAUUUGGUGUACUGUUGGUGAAUAAUAACAUGACACCUCAUCAUUAAAUAAAACAAAAAAAAAAUAGUGAAGUACUUAUAAAUGAAUACUGAUAACUUUACUUAAACAUAAUUAAUUAUAAAUAAAUACUAAAAUCUUGAAACUUAAACUCUAGACUCUAGACCCUUAAUAUGAUAGUUGUUAAUAUUUAUUUAUAAUAGUUACGAUUAAUGUUUAAUGUUCACCGCCCUAGAUGUGGUCUGGGCUCAAGUCACGCUAGUCAUGUUAAUGGUUCAGACUUUCUCCUAUUAUUGUAAUUCACAAAAAAAGAAAAUUAUGUUUAAAAAAUUAUUGGUAUUUAUUUACAAGUCGUCCAUAUUUUUGUUUAAUUAAUGAUGUUGUGUCACAUUAUUAUUCACUAAUGGUGCAUGAAGCUUACGCACUAACCGUGCAUUAAAUAUUAUCCCAAAAAAUAAUAUUUUAAUCAAUAUUUUUUUUUGAAAAAAAAGUGAUUUAAUUCUUUUUAAAAGGUUAAUAAUCAAAUUUAACUCAAAAAAAAAUCAAAUUAACAAGAGAUGUAAAAAUUGAGAGUCGAAUUUAUCAUUAUGCCAAUAAUAUAAAAUAUAAAAACUUUGUUUUUACUGAUACUUAAAUAUUUUCACCAUUAACUUAAAAAGAUAUCCAAAAUAUUAAAUAUAAAAAAUAAUUUAAUAAGUAAACAGUAAUCUAAAUCAUGUUAAGUCAAAACUAAAAAUCCUAUCUUAUACAAAAUGGUUUUAUUAAAAGCGAUAGCCAUGAACUCCGAAAUGAUUAAUAUUCAUGACAUAAUAUAGAAAAAAAAUAAAAUGAUAUUAUUUUUUGGUGUUUGUAAUUUUGUUAAGAAACCCUAAAAUUGGAUGCUUAAUUUGAUGUUUUUAAAGAUAAUAUAUUAUAUUUAGGUUAGUAUUUGGUAUAUUGGUGUAUUUUUUUUUUAAUUUUACAAGUAGAUUUUUAAAAUUACUAGGUGUCCCAUUUAUUUUAUAUACUUAUUUAAUUUUUUUAAUAUUUUAUAGGAUACUUAUUACUAUUGUAAGUCUAUUUAUGAAGUCUAUAAACUUCACUAAUAAUAUAUAAAAUAUUUUCCUUAUAUUUAAUAAUUUAUUUUGAUACAAGCAUUUAAAAUUUAUGAUAAAAGAAAUUAAGUGCAGUUAUUAUUAGGCUAUUUAAAAAAUUAGGACGGCUUAGAUGCAGAUCUUACUGUCAAUUCAAAACUACAUUAAUUAAGCUUAAUCUUUUUUCCUGAUUUCAUUGGUCAAACAUUUAAUGGCAUAUUAACAAGAAUCUAAUUCACUUAUACCUACUUAACCCAUUAAACAGACCCUUUUAGCCCUAUCUAUAUUUAUAUAUACAAUUUGGUGAUUUCUAUCUAUAUUUAUAUAUACAAUUUGGUGAUUUUUACAGUUCGUGGUUGUCGAAACUAAAUUCCCUUAUUAAGAGUGUAAUAUAACUUACCAUUAAAUAUAAUACAUAUAUAUGUAUUCAAAUAACUCAACCUUUUUAUUGUAUAUGUGAGUGUGACUUUUAUAUUUGAAUAACAUGGCUUCCUUCCCCUUAAAUCAUGGAGAAAUCUAGUAUAAAUAUGCAGCUUAAAACACCCACCCUUAGCUUACACUCUUUUGUGCAAACAUUUCCCUUCCAUUUGAAAAAUAAUGGCUUCUAACACUCUCAAGCUCAUUGCCAUGCUCUCCCUUACUAUUUCAGUCCUCUUAUCUUUGUAUCCUCACUCAACCUUCUCAUUCGAAAUGGAGGAUUUCGACGAUGAGGAGGAAUACGUGCCUGAUGAACCUGUCAUCAUCCCCAACCUUCGAUCGAGAAGCCGGUUCUUGAAAACCUCACCCAAGAAAGAUAAGAUUAGGAAAGGUGCACAUUGCGAGCCCGACCCUUAUCACAACAUAUGCAAUGGCCUUUCGGUGAACAACGGGACCGGCAUAUUGUAUUGCUGCAAGACGCAUUGUCGUAAUGUGCUCCGUGAUUGGAACAACUGCGGUGAAUGCGGCCACCGGUGCAAGUUCGGGGAACGUUGCUGCGGUGGGGUUUGUACGGAUGUUGUUUACAAUGUUAACCAUUGUGGCAAGUGUGACAAGCAGUGUUCGCCGGGAGUUUAGUGUGACUUUGGGUAUUGUGGUUAUGCUUAGAUUUAAGUAUUUAUAAUGAUUUUUAUCAAAAUAUAUUGGCAAAUUUACUUGGGGCUGUUUUGGUUAUGAAUAACACUUCGUUAUCGAUAUAUUUUUGUAUAAUGAGGGGAAGGAUAUAUGUAGAUUAUACACAUAUAUAUUUAUGUAAAAAACGAGUUUUAUACGGUGGAUCUUGAGCUUGUUGUAAUUGAUUUUAGCCAUUGUUUUUAUAUACAUUAUUCGAAUUUUAUAUACGAUAGUUUCAUUUUUGAGAAGUUUUCAAACAAUUUUAAGUACUUAAAAUUUUCUGUAAGGUUGCUAUUGAGUCUUAAAUCGACUGGUAUAGAUAUUAUUGUUAAUAUGAGAAAAUUUGUGUUCGAAUGUGCUAAAAUGAAAGUUCAAGUAAUAAGUCUCUAUAUUAUGUAUUGUUAGAGGAUUUAGUUUUGGUUAAAUUCUGUUAUUAGUCUUUGUACUUUAUGAAAGUUAUGAAUUUAGUCAUUGUAUUUUAAUUUGAUUAAGUUUAGUCACUCUACUUUUUGAAUUAGUCAAAUUUAGUCCCUAUACUUUUCAAAAUUUGAAAUUUUAAUCAUGACCCAAACAAUAGCAAUUAAAUCUGUUUGGUUAAAUUCAAUUACUAGUCUUGUAAUAUGCGUUCAAUUGUAGAUUUAGCCCAUAUUCUCCAAUUGGAUCAUUCUAAGUCUCUAUAUUUCUCGAAUUUUGAAAGUUUAGUGUUGAUACAAAUGACAAUCGUUAAUUCAUUAACAUGAUUUUAGUGACUAAUAUGUGGAAUAAUAAGCUGACAUGACAUUACACAUAUGAUAAUAUAUUUACCACAUCAGGUUUUGUAAAUAACAAAACAUAACUUAAUGAAUUUAAUAUGUAUUGUUUGGUGAAGACUAAAAUUUUAAAAUUUAAAAAGUAUAGAGACUAAAUUGACAAAAAAUAUAGCUAUUAAACCCAUAAGUUUUUUUGUAAAAUAUAAGGACUAAUAGAAAAAUUUAUCCUUUAGUUUUUUACUAUAACUUGACCAUGUCUAAUUUCUUUAUUUUUUGCGGAUUGAGGCAUGGCCAUGGUUGCCAAUGUAGGAGGACGUGGGUUCGAGUGCGCUAAAACGCAUUAUCCCCUAUUUAUAGGAUGGGGAGGGGCUAUAGGUAGUUCUAGGUAUUAUGCAAAAAAAAAAAAAACACCCCAAAUACGAUCAGAACUUAUAAUGAGAUAUUGUUCAAAAAAAAAUUCUUUAUUUUUCAAGAUAUGUAUUUUUACUAUUGAGAUAUCUUUUUUAUUGACUUAUUUUUCUAAAACAUAUAAUAAGUUGACAUAUACAAUAAAGCUUUUUCUUGUAUAUUUUAAAAAUUAUUUUGUGCCGAUUGAGUUUUAGUUCGGUUGACAUUAAUAUUGUUGUUAUUGUAGGAAGAUAUAGAUUCGAUCAUUCGAAUGCACUCAAAUUCGUUUUUUCCUUUUUAUUUAUGGGGUGAAAGUCACAUCACCUCAUGUUUUAAAAAAUAAAACAUAAAAUUAAUAAAAAAAUUUAAUCUCAAAAUUAAAAAUAAACAUUUUAAAAAGUAAAACAAGUAGAAAUAUCCAAUAACGUAAUUGACAAAAUUAUAAAAAAAAAUCUUAAGAUUUAUAAAUAUCACUACGAGUCAUUUGUAAGGCUUAUAGUAUGCCUUAAUCGAGAAUAGAGGGAAUCUUUUCUCAUUUAGGGUCUUUUUAGAUGGAUGGUGCGUUUAUUUACGGUUAGUGUAAAAAUAAUAGUGGUGAUGAGAUUAAACACUAUAGCAUAAGACAAAAUAAAAAACUAAACGUACCGCACUGAAAAUCAACGUCCAUCUAAAGUAACCCUUGAAACUAAAUCUAAUUCUAACGAAGUUAUAGCAUUAUUUGGUUUUGCUGGAUAUAGUCUCUCUAUUAUAAUUUAAUUAUUUUUUAUUUUUUUAAAAUGUAUAUCUUUAAUAUUAACGUUAAUUUUGUUAAAUAAUUUAACAUGAUUAUUUUUUAAAAUAUAUGAUGAUGUAAUAUAUACUGUUUAGCAUUUUUUUGCACAAUUGAUUUUUUUUUUUGCGUUUUUCAAAAACAAAAAAGAGAGAAAAAUUAAUGUGUAUAUGCAACAUCACCACAUUCUUUUAAAAUACCAUAUAAUUGUUUGACAAAAUUAUUGAAAAAAAUUGGUUUUAAGACUCAAAUUACACAUUUUGAACUAGCAAUUACAAUUUACAAAAUUAUACUAGAAAUUGGGGGAAGCGAGAAAUUUUUUUAGCGGUCCUGCCGGAUUAUGUUAUAUAUUUUUAUCACAUCUAAAAUAUAAUGAUACUAUUGUAUUUUUGGGAUGUAUUAGAGACUAUGGUUUGGAAGUUUAAAUAUGGAUAUAAUUAAGAAAUUAAUUUCUUAAUCUUUCUUUAAAAUAUAAGUGUUUCGUUAUUUCUUCAUUAAACGAGUGAUACACUUUAUUUAAAUCCUCUCUUGUCAAGAUGUUUAAUGGGUAUAACUUUCGAUCUUUUGGGCAAAUUGAGCAUUGCAAAAUUCUCUCCGUAACUUUUUUUUUUACACAACAGGUACCGUAGCUCUUAUCUUUCUCAUGAUCCCCUUAUUAUGUCUAUCACCAUCGCCUACCACAACACUUGUUUUCUAAGGUCUGCUCCAAUCUUUCUAUCCAUUAUCUCUCCACGACUUCUCAUUUUGCUAGGUUGUAACGUUACUUUAUCUUACCAAAAGAACCUUUUAUAAGGCAAAACUAUAAUUUACCUUAUAUUGACUUGUAAAUUUAUAGAUUUUGGGGUCUAAAAUAUAAUUUUCUAAUUUAACUUAGAAAAGCUAAAUUUACAAAAAAAAUAAAAUUACAAAGCCUUCUUUUAUAGAAUUUAACAGAAGAAAAGAAAAAAAGUCACAUCACUUUUCUAAAUAUUUGGACUGAAUUUGAAUGUUGAAGUCACCAUUAUUAGGAAGGUUUUAUUUAAAUACCAAUUCAGUCCAACCAUAACUAUACUCAAAUCAUAAAAUGAAUGAACAUACUCGUGAUUAUAUAAAAAAGACAUGAUCCACACUAAUCUUCCUCAAACAAUGAAAAAUAAUAAACAAAAACAAUGCCCAUUAGUUCACACUUUAGAUUCUAAGUGAAAUAUGAAGGGUGUAAAUGAGAUAUCAAUAUUCACAAACCACUUAAAUUCAGUUUGAAAAAAACUUGAAUUCAACUCGAUUAUUAUUUAGUUGAGCUCAAGCUUGAGAAAUUCAUGUUAUAAGAGCAAAUAGAAAUUAAGUUAUUGUCAUGAUUUGUAUAGAGUAGUGAUUAAAGCUCUUAUUACACAUUUAUUUUUAACAUAGGUUCAAAUUGUGUUACCCCAUUCUACCUAAAAUUGUAUAAAAAAUAGCUUGGAAAUCUAAUUUUUUCUAAUGUAUAUUUUAAAUUAAUAUUAUAAGAAUUAAUCUUCAACCCGAAUUAAGGUAUAAACAAUUGAGGUUGACGUUGAAAAUGAGGAAAAAUUUCUCAUUAUUCACAGCAAAAAUGGACCUAAUUUAAUUUCUUUUAGUAUCCGACACUUAAACUUAGUAUCCUAAUAACAUAACUUGCAAUUUUUAUCAAAGACUUUUGUAUUUGAAGAACAUGGCUUCCUUUCCCUAAAAUUAUGGGGUAAUCUAUUAUAAAUAAUUGAACACCCUCUCCACUUUCCCUUAGCCUAUACACUUUUGUGCAAAAAUUCCCUUCCAUUUGAAAAACAAUGGCUUCUGACACUCUCAACCUCACUGCCAUCCUCUCCCUUACUAUUUCAGUCCUCUUAUCUUUGCAUAGUAUAUUUAUAUAAAUAUUUUUUUGAGAAAAGAAUGGUUAAUUUGAUGAAUUUGGGGCUAAGGGAUAAAAUUGUAAAAAUUGUAAAAGUUUGAGGUAAUUAUGUAAUUUUGGAAAAUAAAAGGGUAUUAAUUGUAAAAUGAAUUAGGAUUGAAAUAUAUGCUCAUAAAUAAAUAAUUUUACAUUUUAGAUCAAGAUUUCGUAGAUACUCGUGGAAAAGAAAAAAUUAUGGAAUAGCCCCUGCACUUUUGCAACUUCUACAAUUUGGUCAAGGUAAGUUCGUACGGUUAAAUGUAACAUUUUUAUAAAUUUUUAAUGUAUAUUAUGUAUAUUAUGUGGUUGGAAAUGAAUUAUUGUUGGAUUUAUACUAUUGAUUUAAAAACUUGAUUUGAAUUGAACGCGAGAUUUGAGUACAUUUGUGUUUUGGUGUUUGACUCGGAGAUGAUAUCGGAAGGAGAUUUCGGUAUUUUACCCAAGUAAAUCGGUUGGAUAAGCUCUUACGAGCUUCUGUUAAGCUCUUACGAGCUUCUACUGGAAUACUCGGGAGGAUAAACUUUUAUGAACUUCUAUUGAUGAUGUACUCUUACCCAUAAGUUGUUCUUCAAAUGGAAAAUCUCGGUAUGGUAAUUUAGUUAUGAAUUUGAAAGAUAUGUUGUUUAUUUCAUAUUAAUCUGAAUAUAGAUGGAUUUAUUGAUUGAAGUUGUGAACGACAGGUAGUUCUUUUGGAUGGUUAUUAUUGUUUGAAUUAUUAUAGUUAAUUCGAUAAGAUUUAUCGUUUAACUCAUCGAACUUACUAAGCUUCAUUAAGCUUAUUUGUGUUGUUUAAUGUCAUUGUAGAUAAUCGGCUGGUUGGACAAUCAGAUCAGCACUCAAGUCACACUAUCCAGCUUAAUUCAGUAGCUUUUGAAACAUUUAUAUCAGAUUAUAUUACAUGUAAUAGGUUGUGAUGUUACUAAUGUUUUGGAUAUGUAAAUAGUUAAGUAUGAGAUUGGUUGUACAAAUUGCUUUGGUUGAUCUUCUUUCAGUAUUUUUGAUCCUUAUUUAUAUGUGUAUAUGGUCAUUUGACACUUGUUGGAAUGGUUAAAAAAGUAUGUGAUGAAUUGGUUGUUAAGUAGCCAAGUUAUGACAUGCUUGAGUUGGUGUUGAUAGCUGAUGUCUUGAAUGAAUUAAUAGGUUGAAUUAAUGCUAUGUUUUAAUAUAAAUUAUACAUAUAUUUGUGGUACCAAUGAGGGUACAUUGGUUAAGCAUUGAAUUAUGUUGAUUUUGGUAUGUUUUCGGCUUGAAUAAAGUCAAAUUGAAUGGGUAUUUUGAUAGGUAAAUGGUUUGCUUAGGUUCCAAGUAGGCUUGAAAUGGUAAACUUGUUGAAAAAGGUACAUUUUAGGCUUACACGGCCAUACAACACGGCUGUGUGUGACACACGACCAUGCAACUUGGCCGUGUGUCUGUUGUAGCUUCUAAAGGGUUGCAAGUCAAUAUGUUUACACGGCUUAGCAUACGGGAGUGUGGCUUGGCCAUGUGACCCAAGUCAGUAUACUCACAUGGCUUGGCACAUAGGUGUGUGGUUUGGCCAUGUGACCUAAGUCAGUAUACUCACACGGGUUGGGACACGACCUUGUGUCCUUAUUUCGAAUGCCCACACGAGCUAAGACACGGGCGUGUCUCUUGGUCGUGUGACCCUUACAGUUCAAAAUUUUUAAAUUUUUUCUUAAAUUUCCAAAUGUUUUCGAUUUAGUUCGGAACUAUUUUCAAUGUAUUUUUAGGACCUUGAAGGCUCGAUUAAGGGACAUUAUAAAUGUAUUUGAAUAUAAUUGGAUUAUGUUUGCAUUUAUGUAUGAAUUAAAUAAUUUAUUAUUUUGUUAGUCUGGUAAUACUCUGUAACUCUGUUUCGGCGACAGAUAUAGGUUAAAGGUGUUAUGAUGUGUGACAAUAAAAAAGAGAAGAAACACAAGACCAACACCAAUGAUUUUUUAAUAGUUUGUACAAACAUAUUUUUAGAGAGACAUACCUAGAGAUAAAUUUCUACUAAAACACAAUACAAUAAAUGAAACCCAACCAAUCACACAAUUGCACUUCUAAUGUGAAUUCACUCCCUUACUCAGCUUUUCCUACUGAGAAUUGUAAAAACUCAGUCCCAUAUAAUAAAAGGUUUGCACAAAUAAAAUGUUCAUAACAAUGAACUAUAUUAAGCUCACUCAACCUAUACAAAACACUAAAGAAUAAAGUUUUCUAUUUAUAAGUAGUGUGUAGCUUCAAUAAGUUGAUCACUUUAAUUUCCUUAAAAUAUGGAUGAUAAGCUAUAAAAGUAACAUAUUUUAAUCUUAUUCUUAAUGCAUUUUUGGAUGAUUAAUUAUGCAAAUUAGUUAAUUUAAUGCCCUAAUCAUUUAAAAUUUAUGUUUUUAUACUUAGAAGAGCAUUUGGGAGUGAAAGGAGCGAAAAAUAAGCCAAAAGCAGACAAAUAGAGUUGUUUUCAUGAGUCACAUGGCCUGGGCCUUUCCACACCAGCUGGACACACCUAUGUGCCAGCCCAUGCCAGCCCGUGUUGAUUUCGCACCCUGCUUCCCAAAUACAUGGAAAAACACAAUUUUUAAGCUUUCUGAGCAUUCUAAAGCCUAUAAAUAGCAAUUAGAAGAAGAGAGAAGGGAGCCAUCAAAGAUGAUCGAAGAAAACACUCAAAGAAUACCAUCAAAGCCAACUCAAAAGUGAAUCUCCAUCAAGAUUGAAGAUCUCUUUUUAAUUUCUUUCAAAAUUUUUAUGAGUUUCUUUAUAUCUUGUGGUUAUUCUGACUUUAAGAUAUUUUCAUUUAGGAUUAUGAACUAAUUUAUUAGAUACCUAGGGAAGAUGAAACCUAUGAUGAAUCUUAUUAUUUGAUUUUUAAUUUACGCGAUAAAUACUUGAUUCUUAUUCUCAAUUAUGUAUACUUAUUUCUUGUUUUAGUAUUUCUGGGAUAUUAAUUCAUGUUUAAUGUGCUUAAUUUAUUGGAGCAAAAGUCAUUGUUUAAGAGUAAAUCCAGCAUAAUUGAGUGGAGUUGCAUGCAAUCUUAGAAAUAGCAUAUUAUUUGGAAAGCUUAUAUGGUAAAUUUUGUAACACCUAAGUGUGAGAUGUUAGUCUGCCUUUGUGGUGAGAUCUGGAUAUGUCUUUGAGGCAUUUUCUAAAAGAGUUCUCGAUAGUUUACCUAAUGGGCGAUCUCCCCAUAGUAACCCGCUAGGAUAGAGAGCUUGGCAUAUCUGUGAUUAUAGGUGGUGUAAGUGCUUACCAAACUUGGAAGUUCUUACAUAAUGUAUGAGGUCAUCUGGGAUUCUAUUGGAUGAUCUAAAACAUUACAUUUAUCGAAAUUAGUUUGUUGUCUGGAUCGACUUAAAGAUACGAUGUGACUGGAAUUCUAUUAGCUGCUAGAGCCAAUAUAAGAAUCCACCAAGAGUAGUAAUCACAUGUAUAUCAUUCUGAGAAAUAUAUCCAACUUCUAUCUUCAAAUGGGGUUGUGAAAUAGGAUACGCAUUACGGUGUGUAGUUUGUGAUCAACUCAUUAGGCAAAAUGUGUAUAAGGUGGUUGAGGGGAGAGAUGGAUGUAUAGUUAUCCACCAAAAAUCAGAAAAGUAUCCAUCAAAGUCUGAAAGGAAGUCCAGAAUCUUCAAGUAGAGGAAUUCAACAACAAUGUUAAAGGUAAUAUUAGUUGAGACUCACUAAGUUCUGAUGAACUUACAGGCGUCUAUUUGUAAUGGAUGUUCUUGGAAUUGGGCCAACACACUGAAAGGGACCAAGUCAAGAUUCAGACAAUAUGAUCAUUUGUAGAGCAAUAUUAUGCAUACAGAGGGGCACUCUUAGGAAUAUGAUGAACAAUAUAUUACGCCACAAUUAAGUUUGUUUUACAAAAAGAAAUUAAGUUGUAAUGUCUUAUAUUGCUUUUGAGAAUAUGUUGUAAUUGAUAAAAUUUUUCUUCAAAAUCCUUUGACUUAGAAAAGAAAAUAAAUAAAUAAGAAGUAUAUGCUCAAUAUGGUUUUUGCUUGUAAAAUUUUGUUAAGUAUUUAAGUAUAGUGACAUUCUAUAUCCGGGUUCGGUGAAUCGGAUCGGGUACAGGGUGUUACAACUUCAACACAAGAUUAUAAUUAAACUAAUAUAAAUCUAAUAAUUAACUAAGAAGAGAUAAAACAAUCAUUAAGAAAAUAAAAUAAGUAAAUAAGUAAAAACAAAUAAAAUAAAAUAACUAAUUUAAUAAUUGAACUUGUAGAAAAGCCCUAGUGAUAACUAAAUGCAAUAGUUUACUUAAAAACUCACAUAAAUCUAAGUUAAAUGUAUACAAUUACAUCUAUAUGAUGAGUACUCAUCAAUAAAAGAUUUGAAUGAUUGAGAACUAAGCCUUGUUGCCAAGGAUUGAACCGUUUGUAUUUAAGGCGAAAUUGUUUGUUACUAGGUGCACAUAGUUUAUAUGAAAUUACCUUCCAAGACUUCAAUAAUAUCAAAGAAUUGCACACCUCUUUAGAUGUUUUUAAAAUCAUAGAAUUUGGCUCAAAUUUCUCUUCACUAUAAUAGAGCAUUAAGGUUAAUGUACACACAAAUUUCAGGUCGAAAUAAGACCUAAAAAAUUGAGAGCAACCUUUUUGAGAAUUAUUUAGAAUUUCUUCUUCCUUUAUUUAUUUACAGAUUUCUUGGGAUUUUGUAGAUAGCUUCUAGUCAUUAAAAUCUUCUCUUCAGUCAACUUAUGCACUUCGUAAAGUUGUGCUUAAUAAUUUAUUUGAAAAAUUCUUCCUAUACAAAUGCUGUCUCAAGAUUUAAUCAUAUUUAUAAUAUUUUUAAAUGUGAAAUUUCGAUUUGCUUUUGAAUCACAGUUUCAUGUGCACAUUGAACUUGAUUAUAUUGAAAGUUUUUGACGUCACCUUUGUUCAAUAUGAAUUGCCAUGAUGACAGGAACAUUGUAUUGAAAAACCCCCAACUAAUUUAGCAAGCUCAUGGUUUUGUACUUCAACUUGAAUUAAGCCCAUCCCACUCAAUUUGACUUUCUUUGGAUAUUAGCUUUAUUUGUUAAUUAAUUAAGAAUUAAGCUUCAUUCACUUAAAGUCUGAGUAGGAGUUAUAGCCCCAUGAGAUUUGUCAACCCAACCAUUAUACAAAUUUAGCAUACUUGGGUCAUUGAAAUGCACCAAUUCAAAGCAGCGUACUUCUAGAUAAAAUAUAUUCUUAGGGCAAGAAUUUAUUAAUGGUCCCUAGCCAUACACCCAGUAUCCAUGCAUUAUAAAUUGCUAUCUUCCAAAUGUUACCAUGGCCUCACAUGCAAUCUUUGACACUUUGACAUGCAUUAUUUUGCAUGCGUUUCAUGCGAUUUCGCUUUUUGUUUAACAUCCAAAUAACUUAUGCAUCAAAAAGUUAGAUAUAAUUAAGAUAUUCGAUAUUUCAAAAUUAGAACAUCAAGAUAUUUCAUAUAUCUGUUGUGGAACAUCAAAAGUUAAGCAUCAAGACAUCCCAUAUGUUGGUUUGGAGCAUCGAGAUAUCUCUUUGUAUAGAAGCUCCAUAUAUAUACUAUUUGUUUAUGGUUGAUUUAGUUUUUCUAUUAUAAUUUGAUUGCUUUUAAGCUUUAUUUUUCGAAAUGUGUAUAUUCAAUAUUUUGACCAAUAUUUUCUUUAGCUCCAGAGGAGAAUGUAGGAGGGAUGGUAGGGGCCCGGCCCCCUUAAAAUAAAAAAUUAUUAUUUUAGCUCUUUAAAAAAUUUUAAAAUUUCAAAAUAAUAAAUGUAAACUUACAUUUUGACCUUCCCUAAAAUUAUUAAAAUUUAAUUUAAUCUUUUAAAAGUUAUAAAGAUAAUAGGCUAUUAAAAAAUAAAAUUUCUUUUCGAUCCCAAAUUUUUUUUUGGCUUCCUCAUGUUUAGUUCCAUUAAAAAAUUUAAUGUGACUUACCUUUUAAACCGCAUGAUGAUAUAACAUAUAUACCUUAUAUUUUUGUGCACAUUGGGACACUACAAAAUAGGGUGAAUUUGUAUAUAUGCCUCACUACAAGCAAGGGUGAAUUUGUAAAUUUUCAUUUAAACCUUUUGAGGUUUCUUAAAAUUUUAUUUUAGGGAAAAUUACAAGAAUAGUCACCCAACUAUUCAGUUCAUUCUAUUUUCAUCAUCUCACUAUUAAAUUUUUCGUUUUAGUUACUUAAUUUUUCAAAAUUAGAUAUUUUAGCUACUCUUUCGUUAUUUUAUUUUAGCUACUCUUUUGUUAGCCCUACAGUGUUUACAAGAUUUGCCAUUUUAAUCCUAAUUAUAAAAAUUUUUUAAAAAGUAAAAAAGUAGUAGAUAUAAAUUUUAAAUAUUUCAAAAACAAAAUAUAACAAUAUUUUAAAGAAAUUUGUACCCAAAACGAAUUUCAACAGUAUUUUCCACUUUGUUCUUUCUUUCAUUCAAUUGACAAAGUUGAAAAUAUCAAGUGUCAUGUCCUUAAAUGCUAUUUUUGUACCAAAGAGCAAGGUUGUCGAAGUUGGUGUCAUUAAUCCAAUCAUUUUUUUGGGUCUAUAAAUAUGUUAAUUUUGAGCUUCUUUCUAGGUUUUGAUUAGGCAUUUGAGCAAACAAUAUGACAAAAGAAAAAGGGACUAAAUUAAAAGAUAUUGAAUCAAAAAAAUAUCUUUAAUUUAUGGGUUUUUCAUGUGCUUGAUUAAUGAGAAAAUGAGCAUGGUUGAUGAGAAAAAAGAAAAUAUAAAUUUUAAAAAAGUAAAUAUAAAAAUAUUUUUGAGAUUGUUUAAAUAUAUUUUAUAAUUUUUAGAAGUGGGACUAAAAUGAAUUUUUUUAAACAUUCAGGGCUAGACUUGUUGAAAAUUUUAGAUUUAGGAUCAAAUUUGAAAUAAUUUGUAAAUAUUGGAGGGCUAAAUUUGUUAUUAGGCUAAUAAGAAAACCCACAUUAGACUUUCAUUAAACGACAAGAGUGACUAAAAUAUUUAAUUUAGAAAAGUUGAGUGACUAAAUAAAAAAUAAUAAUAGUUGGGUGACCAAAAUAGAACAAACUAAAUAGUUAGUAGACUAUUUUUGUACUUUACCCAUUAUUUUAACCUUAUAAUUAAUUUCUAAAAAUAUGAUAAUUUGUGUCUAGCUUCCCAUUAUAAGAAUUCAACCCCAACCCGAGUAUAAACAAGUACUAUUUUUAUUAAAGACUUUUGUAAUUGAAGAACAUGGCUUCCUUUCCCUAAAUUUUUGGGGUAAUCUAGUAUAAAUAUGCAGCUAAAAUUAAACACCCUCUCCACCUUUCCUUGGCUUAUACUCUUUUGUGCAAAUAUUCCCUUCCAUUUGAUAAACAAUGGCUUCUAACACUCUCAACCUCAUUGCCAUCCUCUCUCUUACUAUCUCCAUCCUCUUAUCUUUGUAUCCUCAACCAGCCUUCUCAUUCCAAAUGGAAGAUUUCGACGGCGAGGAAGAAUAUGUGCUCGAUCAUCCUGUCAUUAUCCCUAACCUUCGAUCGAGAAGCCGGUUCUUAAAGACCUCGCCGACAAAAGAUAAGAUCAGGAAAGGUGCCGAUUGUGAUCCUCACCCUUCUCUAAACAUAUGCAAGGGUAUUUCCGCAAACAACGGGACCAGUCUACUGUAUUGCUGUAAGACGCAUUGUCGUAACGUGCUUAGUGAUCGAAACAACUGCGGAAAAUGUGGCAACCGGUGCAAGUUCGGGCAACGUUGCUGCGGUGGAGUUUGUACUAAUGUUGCUAACAGCGUCAACCACUGUGGCAAGUGUGGCAAUCAGUGCUCGUCUGGAGUUCAGUGUGAUAAUGGAUUUUGUGGUUAUGCUUAGGUCUAAGUAUGAUAAUGGUUUUUAUCAAAAUAAAUUUGCCAAUCAAAAAUGCUUUGUCUAGGGGCCGUUUUGAUUAUGAAUAACACUUCGUUAUCUACAUGUAUUUUUUGUAUAAUGGGGGGAGAAUAUACACAUAUUUUAUGGUGCUGUAAUUGAUUUUAGUCAUGGUUUUUAUAUAUGUUAUACGAUAUUUUCUUUUAAAUUUAAAGUAGACAUAUCCUCUAUUUAUUUGUUAAUUUUAUUGUUGUGAUAAUUUAAAAUUAUAAAAAAUACUCACUUAACAUAAAUGACAUUAUAAUGGACAUAAAUUUAAUAAAAAAUUAAUUAGCAAUUCUUAAAAUUCACAUCAACGUCUUAAUCGAAAUAAAGUAUUUAGAUUACCUAAUGGCAUUAUAAGAGGUUUUUUCUUUGGACUAAAUUAUAGAGUAAAUAACUGAAUAUUAAAAUAUACUUUAAGUCUCUAAAUUUUUUGCAUAUUUAAAAUUCUUCUUCCAAAUGUUACCAUGGUCUCAUAUGCAUACUUGAUUAAACCAUUAAAAUCAAUUUUCUUUAUUUUAAAUUUUUAAUGAAUUUUUAAUAAUUUUUAAAUAUAUAUAAAGAAAAUAAUACUUUUUAUCUUUUUUUUUUAUUGUAUGACUAUUUUUAAUGGAUUAUCCUUUUUUUUAAAUAAACUUAACGAUUUGACUAACUAUUGAAUUAACAAAAGUAUCAGCAUGGAAAAAAAAUUUAAAUACUACUAUGAUUAGAAAAAUGUUUAGGCACCAAAAUUAGAAAAUUUAGGUACUAAUAUACUAGUUAAGACUCGUUUUAGAAAUAGACUUAUCAAUUUAGCUAAUGGUUUGACUAACGAAAAUAUCGAUUUGAAAAAAGAAUUUUAUUUAGAUAUCAAAAUGUAAAAAAGUGUAUAAUUUAAGUACCAAUUUAAGGUUAAACUUUGUUUUCAAUGCAAGUUCAAAUUUGGUGCAUUAUGAAAUUCGAAACUUAUCAACUUUUCCCCUCAUUGAGCGUCUUUUAUUAAGGUAGCCUAAUGCUUUAUUUGUUUGCAUGAGUGACUUGUUACAAUGUUUCAGACGAAUUCCCUACCUCGCGAGCCUCCGUUUAUUGCGUAACUCCAUAGCACAUGCAUCUUGUUUCAGUAUCGGAAAUUUCUCAUAUAUCAGAAGUGGAAUUUUAACAUAUGUCAUAUUUUACAUUUGGAUCACCGAGAUAACUUAUUUGUUUGUUGUGGAGAAUCAAAAAGAAGCAUCAAGACAUUUCAUAUAUAAGUUUGGAGCAUCAUAUCUAUUUAGGGGUGAGUAGAACUCGAUUUGAAUUGACAAGUUAAUUUCUCGUUCAAAUUUCGAGUUAAUUGAAUUUAGUUUUCAAUUUCCCUAAUCAACUCAAAUAAGUAAAUUGGGUUUUUGAGUUCAAGUUGAGUUGAAAUUUAUAAUUUGAUUAACUCAAAUAAUUAGUAUAAAAAAUUGUCGUAAUUGCCCAACAGGUUGUUGUCAAUUUCGUAUAACUGAAUUACUUUGGUUUUCUCUUCUUCUUCUUCUUCUUUUUUUUAAAAGAUUUUUCAAGUAUUACGGUCUCAAAUUUAUUUGCUAUAACAUGGAAUUUGGUCAUUUUGUCAAUAAGUUCUUAAUUUGGCCUUUUAAAAAGAACUUAAACAUAUUUGUCAAUUUGACUCGACUCGACUUAAAUUUCAUUUCAACUGACUUGAUUCGAAAAAAUUCAAAUAAGCUAGGAUGAUAAAUUAGAGAGAGAGAGAGAGAGAGAGAGAGAGAGAGAGAGAGAGAGAGAGAGAGAGAGAGAGAGAGAGAGAGAGAGAGAGAGAGAGGGAGAGAGAGAUGCAUGGGUGUUUGGAUCUAGUGCCCUUAGUGUAGUAGUUUCAUCUAUAUGUAUUUUUCGAACAAAUUGAUUUAAUAGAAUAUUCAUCAAUUUCAUUAAUAUACUCAAUAUAUAGUCCUCAAAGAUUUUUGUACGUAAAGAAAAAUUAAAAUAAAUACUGACUCAUUGAUUACCUAAUAUUUAAUUGAUACUAAGCAAUAUUACGUGGUCGGAUCAUAAUACAAAAAUAAACAUUAUUUUUAUUCUACUAGUUCAGCUAGGAUUUUUCCAUCUCUCUUUAUAAAUAAAUGGCACUGGUAGGGCUUUAAUCACACCAACACAACAAAAAAAAAAAAAAACAAGUUUAACAUAAGUUUUCAAUAUUGUUAUUCUGGCAUAGAGUAGAGGUAAUUUGUUAUUUAUCUGUCGUAAGUUGAUAUGUCAAAUUAGGCUCCUCAUUACACUUAACAAGCUUGCUUUCGAGCAAUUUAAAUGUCUUUAUCGUAUUUUUAGUUAGUUUUAGUUCUUUGCACCAAUAAGUAAAUUAGUUUGCAUUUUAUGCUAUUUUGAGAACCAAGAUGGCCAAUUGGCAUCUAGGGCAUCUAACAAGGUUGGUGAGUGAUGCAGAGAGUCCACGGUGACCCGAACAGAGCGAGGAAAUCACCGAGAAGGGGGUAUCAUGUAACACCCCUAACCCGUAUCUGUCGCCGAAUUAGGAUUAUGAGGCAUUACUGGACAAAACACAACUCAAUACAGACGUUCAAUAAAAUUCAAAAAUUUAACAUUUAUAUGCAAUUCGUUUGAAUACAAGUUUAAAUAAACUAUUUCCAAAUCAAAAUAUAAGCAUUGUAUAUAUAUAUAAAUUGAAAUAUAUUAAGCUUAGUCAAAUUUUAAGUAAGUAUAAUUAUAAAUUCUACUUUAACCUUUUUAAAACAAAACAUAACAUUUCAAUCCUGUUAAACCAUAAGAAAAUAAGCCAUUUUCGUAUGACUAUUAAUUAUAUAUACAGUACAUAAAAGUACGACUUCCAAAACAUUAUCUAGCCUAUACAUGCCAAAAGUUAAAAUUUAAACAUUUCAAUACCGAUACAAUAGAUAGAGUGAUGAUCUUUGUUGAUGAUCCCCGAGCCUGCAGCUUUGUUUUUAUUUAUAAAACAAAUGGACGUAAACUAACAAAGUAAGCUUUUAUCGCUUACUAAGUAUUUAGCAUAUCUAUAAUACAUAUAAAAGAAUCAUAUAAUUCCUUAAGUAAAUUUAUUGAGAUCACAAAUACCAAAUAUAAUUACUAUUCAAACAUUGCUAUCUUAAGUCAUUUUGUUGAUAUCUAAAAGAAUGUAUAUUUAAUUAAUACAUAUAAACGAACAUAUGUAUAUUCAUUAUAUGCAUAUAACCAAGUUAUAAACAUACUCACUAACUGCAUAUACUAAUUGCUAGUGUACUUGUUGAUUGCACUUCAUCAAAUGCAUUUAUAUAUAUAAUUAUUCAAAUACAUAUGCCAAAAGCAUAUAUUUAUACUUAUCAAUUACAUGUGCCGAAUGCACAUAUAUACUUAUAAUCCACAUAUGCCGAAUGCAUACAUAUAUAUAUAUCCAACAAUUUCAUAACAACCAAUAUACGUACUUACUCAUUAAACACAAAGAUCCGAACGUUUAUAUACUCACCAAAUACACAGAAACAAAUGUUCAUAUAUUUAUCCAUCACAUAUAACCAAAAUCAUAUAUAUACCCAAUGUAUAUAAUCACUUAAUUUAAACAGAUUCACUGGCACUUAGCCUGUUAGGCUUAAAGCCUGAUUCAGAUCACUGGCACUUAGCCUGCUAGGCUUAUAACCUAAUUCAGAUCACCGACACUUAGCCUGUUAGGUUUUAAAACCUGAUUCAGUACACCGGCUUUUUGCCUACUAGACUUAUAGUUCGAAAUGUUUCACCGGCAUCAAGCCUGCUAGACAUAAAGUCUGAAUUAUCUCACUGGCGAUAAACCUUCUAGACACUGAGCCUGAAAUCUCAUUUCACAUAAGUCGUAACUCAUAUUCAAACUAUAUAUGUAUAUAAAAUCCAUACAUAAAAAUUCAACCCAAAUUUUGUAACUUAUAUUCUUGAACCACAUGGAUAUAUAUAAAGUUCAAUCACCAAACCCAACAUUAAUAUCUCAAUGAUUCAACCGAACACAUUUAUAUAUGACUUCAUACUUUAGAUACUACUACUAAUAUCAUACUAUUUAACUUAUUACUAUGUACAUUUAACAUUCGAAUCUCACAUAUACCUAUAUAAAUUCAUACCCCAUUUCAAUACAAAAACUUAUACAUGUACAUAUAUACAUUCGAAUCUAACAUAUAUACAUAUAUAAUUUUAUACUUACAUUCGAAACAAGUACUUAUACUUGUAUACACAUGCAUUUUUGAAUUUAACAUAUACAUAUAUAAUGUCAUACUUAUACUUAAUAUAAGCAAUUAUACAUAUAUAUACAUGCUAAUUCAAUCCAAACAUAUACAAAUAUAUUAUACAUAUAUAUAUAUAUGUAACAUCCAUACUUUUAAUAAAAUCCAAGAAUUUAUACUCGUAUAUACAUACCUAUUCAAACCUCUUGUAAACAUAUAUAACAUUCAACAUUAACUAAAUUCAAAACUUAUUCAUGUAUAUACACAUAUAUCCGAACUUCAUAUAUAUAAAUAUAACAUACAUACUUUUAACUAAAUUCAAGAACUUAUUCAUGUAUAUACAUAUAUAUUCGAACUUUAUAUAUAUAAAUAUAACAUACAUGCUUUUAAAUAAAUUCAAGAAUUUAUUCAUGUAUACACAUAUAUAUCCGAACUUUAUAUAUAUAAAUAUAACAUACAUACUUUUAACUAAGUUCAAGAACUUAUACAUGUAUAUACAUAUAUUAUCCACUAGUAGUUCUAUAUUAUUUAACUUUAAACAAACUUUAGCUAACAUACAUGUAAUUUGCAUCAUUAAUAUCAACUUACCAAAGUAAAUUCUCGUAUUCGGCUAUCAAUAAUAAAAUUUAAAGUUUCGUACAAUUUGAAUAUAUUAAGUUUCAGCUUAUCAUAUGUAAAAUAAAUAUAAUAAGUAUAUAUUUAAUUUAGAUAACAUUUAAUUGUUAAUUGACUUACCUCGGAUAUCGACGGACACGUUCGACUAUUCGACUACUUUCGUUUUUCCCCAAUCAAAUUCCAUUUUCUUCGUUUCUUGAUCUAAACAUAUUCAAAUUUAUCCUUUUUAUUCAUCAAAUCAUUCAAUUAAAUCCAAAAAUACAUAAAUGGGAAAAUUACCAUUUUGCCCCUAACAUUUUACACUUUUUGCAAUUUAGAGCUUUUUGCACAAAACACAAAAUACACAAAAUUUAAUCACACCAUACUAGGGCCGAAUGUUCCAAGUGUUCAUAAAAGUCCACACUUUUUAUUUAUUUCACAUUUUAGUCCCUAAAAAAAUUAUUUUCACAAUUUAGCCCUAAUUACUCAAUUUCACCAAAAUUUCAAAGACAAAACAUAUUAAUCUUUCACAUAUUUUUCAUUUUUCAUCAUCAACUAUCAUAAAGCUCAAGCAUUCAUCAAUGGCACAUUUCAAAAUCAUCAACAAUUCACAAAAUUAAGACAUGGUUUUUGAAGUAUUCAAAGCAACGAUUUCAAAAAAGUAAAAAUCAUCAAAAACCAAACAAAAACUAACCUUGAAUUAAGCUUCAAAAGAUGGCUGAACCUAGCUUAGGUUUCUUUUUUUUUUUUGUUUUCUCUAGUUUCGGUCAAAAUAAGAUGAAAAUGUGGCUUUUAAUUUGUUUGUCUUUUAAUAUAUUAACUUUAUAAUAUAAUAUAUUAUUAUAACCUUCAUACAUAAUAUAAAAACUAUAAUUUAUAAGCAUAAUGCCGUCCACUAUCUUGAUUAAUGGCCUAAUUUCCUAUUAAGGACUUCACAUUAUAAAGACAUUAGCAAGUUAGCAUUUUACACAUUAAUUAGUCAAUUUCACUUUUUACGCGAUUAACUCCUUUUAUUAAAUUAAGUACACAAACAAUAAAAUUAAUUCACGAAACUUUCACACAUGCAAAUUAACACAUAAUAAACACAGAAAAUAGUAUUAAAAUAUUUUUUGAUUCAAAUUCGUGGUCCUGAAACCACUAUGUUCGAUUAGGGUUGAAAUCGGGCUAUAGCAUAUCGCGAUAUCAAAGCAUGAAAGUUGUGAUACCCUUAACAGUGUUGAAAACAAGGAAGAUUGAGUUGCCAAUUGUGGUAUCGUGAUACCCAAAACUUUCAAGGACCCCCAUUUCAAGACUGUUGUAGAUAUCGUGAUACCAGGCUCUAGGUCGUGAUAUCACUAUUGAAGGGAAACAAAAAUUGACCACAAGGGUAGUCAUUGUCCAACAUGUCCCUCAAUCAAAAUUAGUGUGACGCCCCAAAAUUAGUAUUUAUGGUUUGUUAGAUUUUAUUAUUAGUAAGUAUCUGUUUCGGUGAUCGAGGGCUUUAAUUAUGUGUUUAGGGUCUUGGGUUAAAAUCUCAAAAUUCAAUUUUUUUUAUAUCUAGGCCUAUCUUUGUUCGUUGGGCUUAAAUGUUGUUUUUAGUUGACUUAUAUUAGAAUAAGCCUGUUGGUUUGGGUAGUAAAGUGUUUGUUAGUUUACUUUGUGGUAUUGUGUUUACUUCUUUGUGUGAGCAAGUUGGUAGUAUUGUUUGGUAUUUUUGAUUGGGCUGAUCAUUUAACUGUUGUGGUCUAAUUGAACUCUAUCUGUAGGAAAAAAAAUUUGAUUUUUAUAAAAAUUCUGAAUUGGUUUUAAAUGGGUUUUGUUUUAAAAUAAAUAAAAUAGGUUGUUUUUAUCUUGCUACUUUUGAAAUAAAUUUCAUUUUGUUUUAUUUUUGAAAACAAAACCCACCUUCCCUGCUUCUAAUUUUCCCCUAAACCCACGCUGCCAAUCCAUAAUUUUGUUAUUUGAUUUUAUUCUUCUUCAUUUCUUUUGUUUCUUGCUUGAAUUUCCUUUAAUCUUUUGGGCUGUCUUUGUGUUUUUAUUCGUGGAUUCUACUCUAUUCUCCAUUGACGAUCUUGCUUCCUAUUUGUUCUUACUUUUGAGUUUCGUCAGGUAAAUUGUUGUGCUUUCUUUAGUAAGUUCGAAUUUUGGGAGUUCUGUUUCAAAUCUUGAUGUAGAAAUUUUGUUUUUAUGGGGAUAGUGAUUGUAGUUCGGUUAGAGGUUUGUUGAGACUUGAUUAAUUUAGUAGGGUUUUCAUUGUUAGGUGAUAAUUCUGAAACGCUUAGCCUUACUUCAGCAUCGUAAUUUUGUGAGGUUGUUGCUUGUUUAAUGGUAAGAGUAUGGAGGUGUUUUGGUGUAUUGGAAGAGUUCAAUUCUUGGUUAUUUCGUGUCUCAUUACUGUUAUUAGUCGUAUUAUAUGUCGUAUUUAGGUCUUAGGAGUUUUCUGGUUGCAUUCUCAUCGAAUUUUAACUAGAUAUGUAAUGAGAAAACCGAAAAUUAGUGAUCGAUGAAAGUCAAAAAGGCAUCCUGUCAAUGCCACACGAUUGUGUGGUAGGUCGUGUGUGACACACAACCAUGUGACAGGUCAUGUGUUGAGCAUGUAUGACACAUGGUUUGGGCCAUUUGGCCCAUGUGGAUCACACGGGCGUGUGUGAGGUUGUGUGGACCACACAAGCUGGCUAUUUGGGUCAUGUGGGACACACGGGUGAGUGGGGGACAAAAAUAUGAUAUUUUUAAAUAUAUAUAAAGAAAAUAAUACUUUUUAUCUUGAAAUGUGAAAUUUCGAUUUGCUUUUGAAUCACAAUUUCAUGUGCACAUUGCACUUGAUUAUAUUGAAAGUUUUUGACGUCAUCCUUUGUUCAAUAUGAAUUGCCAUGAUGACAGGAACAUUGUAUUGAAAACCCCCCAACUAAUUUAGCAAGCUCAUGGUUCUGUACUUCAACUUGAAUUAAGCCCAUCCCACUCAAUUUGACUUUCUUUGGAUAUUAGCUUUAUUUGUUAAUUAAUUAAGAAUUAAGCUUCAUUCACUUAAAGUCCGAGUAGGAGUUAUAGCCCCAUGAGAUUUGUCAACCCAACCAUUAUACAAAUUUAGCAUACUUGGGUCAUUGAAAUGCACCAAUUCAAAGCAGCGUACUUCUAGAUAAAAUAUAUUCUUAGGGCAAGAAUUUAUUAAUGGUCCCUAGCCAUACACCCAGUAUCCAUGCAUUAUAAAUUGCUAUCUUCCAAAUGUUACCAUGGCCUCACAUGCAAUCUUUGACACUUUGACAUGCAUUAUUUUGCAUGCGUUUCAUGCGAUUUCGCUUUUUGUUUAACAUCCAAAUAACUUAUGCAUCAAAAAGUUAGAUAUAAUUAAGAUAUUCGAUAUUUCAAAAUUAGAACAUCAAGAUAUUUCAUAUAUCUGUUGUGGAACAUCAAAAGUUAAGCAUCAAGACAUCCCAUAUGUUGGUUUGGAGCAUCGAGAUAUCUCUUUGUAUAGAAGCUCCAUAUAUAUACUAUUUGUUUAUGGUUGAUUUAGUUUUUCUAUUAUAAUUUGAUUGCUUUUAAGCUUUAUUUUUCGAAAUGUGUAUAUUCAAUAUUUUGACCAAUAUUUUCUUUAGCUCCAGAGGAGAAUGUAAGAGGGAUGGUAGGGGCCCGGCCCCUUAAAAUAAAAAAUUAUUAUUUUAGCUCUUUAGAAAAUUUCAAAAUUUCAAAAUAGUAAAUCUAAACUUGCAUUUUAGCCAUCUCUAAAAUUAUUAAAAUUUAAUUUAAUCUUUUAAAAGUUAUAAAGAUAAUAAACUAUCAUUUCGACCCCAAUUUUUUUUUUUUUAACUUCCCUCAUGUUUAGUUCCAUUAAAAAAUUUAAUGUGACUUACCUUUUAAACCGCAUGAUGAUAUAACAUAUAUAUAUAUACCUUAUACUUUUUGCACAUUGGGACACUACAAAAUAAGGGGGGGGGGGGAGAGAGAGAGAGAGGGGGUAAAACAUUUAUCAAGCUAAACGGAAAUAUCAAUAUGUAUAUAUGCCUCCCUACAAGCAAGGGUGAAUUUGUAAAUUUUCAUUUAAAUCUUUUGAGGUUUUUUAAAAUUUUAUUUUAGGGUAAAUUACGAGAAUAGUUAGCCUACUAUUCAGUUAUUCAGUUCAUUCUAUUUUCGUUAUCUCACUAUUAAAUUUUUCGUUUUAGUCACUUAACUUUUCAAAAUUAAAUAUUUUAGCUAUUCUUCCGUCAGAUGCUUAAUGAAAGUCUAACAUGGGUUCUAUUUUAUUGGCCUAAUAAAAAAUUUAGCCCUACAGUGUUUACAAGAUUUGUUAUUUUAAUUCUAAUUAUAAAAAUUUUAAAAAAGUAAAAAAGUAGAUAUAAAUUUUAAAUAUUUCAAAAACAAAAUAUAAUAAUAUUUUAAAGAAAUUUGUACCCAAAACGAAUUUCAACAAUAUUUUCCACUUUGUUCUUUCUUUGAUUCAAUUGACGAAGUUGAAAAAUAUCAAGUGUCAUGUCUUUAAAUGCUAUUUUUGUAGCAAAGAGUAAGAUUGUCGAAGUUAGUGUCAUUAAUCCAAUCAUUUUUUUUGGGUUUAUAAAUUUGUUAAUUUUGAGCUUCUUUCUAGGUUUUGAUUAGGCAUUUGAACAAACAAUAUGACAAAAGAAAAAGGGACUAAAUUAAAAGAGAUUGAAUCAAAAAAAUAUCUUUAAUUUAUGGGUUUUUCAUGUGUUUGAUUGAUGAGAAAAUGAGCAUGGUUGAUGAGAAAAAGUAAAUAUAAAUUUUAAAAAUUAAAUAUAAAAAUAUUUUUAAGAUUGUUUAAAUAUAUUUAUAAUUUUUAGAAUUAGGACUAAAAUGAAUUUUUUUUAAACAUUCAUGGCUAGACUUGUUGAAAAUUUUAGAUUUAGGAUCAAAUUUGAAAUAAUUUGUAAAUACUGGAGGGCUAAAUUUGUUAUUAGGCUAAUAAGAAAACCCAUAUUAGACUUUCAUUAAACGAUAAGAGUGACUAAAAUAUUUAAUUUAGAAAAAUUGAGUGACUAAUUAAAUAAAAAAUUAAUAGUUGGGUGACCAAAAUAGAACAAACUAAAUAGUUAGUAGACUAUUUUUGUACUUUACCCAUUAUUUUAACCUUAUAAUUAAUUUCUAAAAAUAUGAUAAUUUGUGUCUAGCUUCCCAUUAUAAGAAUUCAACCCUAACCCGAGUAUAAACAAGUACUAUUUUUAUCAAAGACUUUUGUAAUUGAAGAACAUGGCUUCCUUUCCCUAAAUUUAUAGGGUAAUCUAGUAUAAAUAUGCAGCUUAAAUUAAACACCCUCUCCACCUUCCCUUAGCUUGUACUCUUUUGUGCAAAUAUUCCCUUCCAUUUGAGAAACAAUGGCUUCUAACACUCUCAACCUCAUUGCCAUCCUCUCGCUUACCAUCUCAAUCCUCUUAUCUUUGUAUCCUCAACCAGCCAUUUCAUUCCAAAUGGAAGAUUUCGACGGCGACGAAGAAUAUGUGCUCGAUCAUCCUGUCAUUAUCCCUAACCUUCGAUCGAGAAGCCGGUUCUUAAAGACCUCGCCGACGAAAGAUAAGAUCAGGAAAGGUGCCGAUUGUGAUCCUCACCCUUCUCUAAACAUAUGCAAGGGUAUUUCCGCAAACAACGGGACCAGUCUACUGUAUUGCUGUAAGACGCAUUGUCGUAACGUGCUUAGUGAUCGGAACAACUGCGGAAAAUGUGGCAACCGGUGCAAGUUCGGGCAACGUUGCUGCGGUGGAGUUUGUACUAAUGUUGCUAACAACGUCAACCACUGUGGCAAGUGUGGCAAUCAGUGCUCGUCUGGAGUUCAGUGUGAUAAUGGAUUUUGUGGUUAUGCUUAGGUCUAAGUAUUAUAAUGGUUUUUAUCAAAAUAUAUUUUCCAAUCGAAAAUGCUUUGUCUAGGGGCCGUUUUGAUUAUGAAUAACACUUCGUUAUCUACAUGUAUUUUUUGUAUAAUGGGGGGAGAAUAUACACAUAUUUUAUGGUGCUGUAAUUGAUUUUAGUAAUGGUUUUUAUCUAUGUUAUACGAUAUUUUCUUUUAAAUUUUAAGUAGACAUAUCCUCUAUUUAUUUGUUAAAUUUGCUGUUGUGAUAAUUUAAAAUUAUAAAAAAUACUCACUCGGUAUUCAUGUAAUAAAAUGACAUUGUAAUGGGCUUAAAUUUAAUAGAAAAUUUAACAGUGUUAGCAAUUCUUAAAAAUUCACAUCAACAUCUUAAUCGAAAUAAAGUAUUUAGACUACCUAAUGGCAUUAUAAGAGGUUUUUCCUUUGGACUAAAUUAUAGAAUAAAUAACUGAAUAUUAAAAUAUCCUUUAAGUCUCUACAUUUUUUGAAUAUUUAAAAUUUAGUCUUCAUAUACUUUUAUUUUUAAAAAUUCAAUCUCUCUAUUUUUCGAAUUUAAAAAUUUAGAUCCAAUUGUUAACACCAUCAAAUUCUUAUGCUCAAAUCGAUGGUAUGACAUUUUGAAAUAAAAAAGAAAAUAUAUUCACUUAGUAGUCAUGUAACAAAAAAAAAAGACAUUACAAUGGCUUGAAUUUAAUAUAAUUUUAAUAGUGUUGACAACUAUUAGAUGUUACAUGAACAUUUUAAUCAAAUUAAAGUAUUUGAGUUGAUCAAUGACAUAUUGUAAAAAUUGAGGUACCAAAUCAUGUCAAAAGUUGAAGUAUAAAGAUUAAAUCUUAAAUUUGAGUGUAUUAUAAAGAUCAAAAUUGAAAUUGAACCAUUAUUAUAAUCUUAAUUUUGAGUAUAGGAUAGGGGCUAAACUUGAAAAAUGACCAUUUUCCUAUAUAAUGCAGAGGCAGAGAGAGAGAGAGAGAGAGAGAGAGAGAGAGAGAGAGAGAGAGAGAGAGAGAGAGAGAGAGAGCAAAACUGGAAGCUGCAUGUCAGUCUUUAAGACUAUUAAGGUAUUCAAAUUAGAUAUAACUACAAAUUACAAAACGUUUUAAUCGAAAAGUUAACAAUAUUAACUAUUUGGAUUAAUUAACAAAAAUAUGAAAUAUUUGGGCUAAACUUGCAAGGCAUAUGCAUAUACAUAUACAUAUAUAAGUUUUUAUUUUUUAGUUUCUCAUUUCCGGUAAAUUUAUAAUAAUUUAUACCAAUUAAAUUAAAUUAAAAAUAAUUUUCUAUAAAAAUAUCAAUAGGACAUAUGGUAAAAUCUUGGUCUUGCUUUUGGAGUUAAAAUUUUUCACCCUAUGUUCCAAAUAAUUACCCUUUUUAAAUAAAAUGACGAACAAUAAUAUUAGGCAUAUAUUGUUUUAGGUCAGAUUAUGAUUAUAGUCUCUCUACUAUGUUUAAAUUUAAAAUUUAGUAUCUAUUCUUUAAAUUGAUAAAAUUUGGUUCCACUAGAGAAUAUCAUUAGUUAGUUGAAAAUUUGAAAUAAUUGAUUAGUUGAAAUUUUGAAAUAAUUGACACCUUUAAUUAUUCAGGUCAAAAUGUUGAGGACAAUUUAUUUUUCUUAAAUAUACCUAUUUCAACUUCAUGUAAAUAAUUGAACCAAAAAAAAAAACUCCAUGUAAAUAAAUAUAUAAAUGUAUUUCGUGCGCCUCCCAUUAGCAACACACAGUAUCCAUGAAAAUCGUCGUCUUAUUGGGCGUCCUUCAUGAACGAAAAUCAUGAGAAUGAACCAAAAAUGUUACCAUGCAUUAUAUAGUAUAAAUUGCUCUCUUCUUCUUCUUCUUCUUCCAAAUGGUACCAUGGUCUCAUAUGCAUUACAAUGCAUAAAGUCGAUUUUCUUUAUUUUAAUUUUUUUAUGAAUUUUUAAUAAUUUUUAAAUAUAUAUAUAUAAAGAAAAUAACAUUUUUUUAUCUUUUUUUUUAUUGUAUGACUAUUUUUAAUGGAUUAUCAUUUUUUAAAGAAACUUAACGAUUUGAGUAACUAUUGAAUUAACAAAGGCACAACAUGAAAAAAAAAAAGUUUAGAUACUACUUAUGAUUAAAAAAAUGUUUAGGCACCAAGAGUGGAAAAUGACAUAGUUUAGGUAUCAAUUUAUUAGUUAAGACUCUUUUUAGAAAUAGACUUAUCAAUUUGGCUAACGGUUUGACUAACAAAAAUACCGAUUUAAAAAAAAAAUUAUUUAGGUAUCAAAAUGUAAAAAGGGUAUAACUUAGGUAACAAUUCAAGGUUAAACUUUGUUUUCAAUGCAAGUUCAAAUUUGGUGCAUUAUGAAAUUCGAAACUUGUCAACUUUUUCCCCUCAUGGUGCGUCUUUUAUUAAGGUAGCCUAAUGCUUUAUUUGUUUGCAUGUGUGACUUGUGACAAUGUUUGAGACGAAUUCCCUACCUUGCGAGCCUCCGUUUAUUGCGUAACUCCAUAGCACAUGCAUCUUGUUUCAGUAUCGGAAAUAUCUCAUAUAUCAGAAGUGGAAUUUUAAUAUAUUUCAUAUUUUAGAUUUGGAUCAGCGAGAUAAUUUAUUUAUUUGUUGUGGAGAAUAAAAAAGAAGCAUCAAGACAUUUCAUAUAUAAGUUUGGAGCAUCAUAUCUAUUUAGGGGUGAGUAGAACUCGACUUGAAUUGACAAGUUGAUUUCUCUUUCAAAUUUCGAGUUAAUUGAAUUUAGUUUUCAAUUUUCCUAAUCAACUCAAAUAAGUAAAUUGGGUUUUUGAGUUCAAGUUAAGUUGAAAUUUAUAAUUUGAUUAACUCGAAUAAUUAGUAUAAAAAAUUGUUGUAAUUGCCCAAUAAGUUGUUUUCAAUUUCGUAUAGCUGGAUUACUUUGGUUUUUUCUCUUUUCUUUUUUCAUUUUAACAGUUUUCAAGUAUUAUGGUCUCAAAUUUAUUUGCUAUAACGUGGAAUUUGGUCAUUUUGUCAAUAAGUUCUUAAUUUGGCCUUUUAAAAAGAACUCAAACAUAUUUAGCCAAUUUGACUCGACUCGACUUGAAUUUCAUUUCAACUGACUUGGUUCGAAAAAAUUCAAAUUAGCUAGGAUGAUAAAUUAGAGAGAGAGAGAGAGAGAGAGAGAGAGAGAGAGAGAGAGAGAGAGAGAGAAAUGCAUGGGUGUUUGGAUCUAGUGCCCUUAGUAUAGUAUUUUCAACUAUAUAUAUUUUUCGAACAAAUUGAUUUAAUAGAAUAUUCAUCAAUUUCAUUAAUAUCUUCAAUAUCUUGUCCUCAAUGAUUUUUGUACGUAAAGCAAAAUUAAAAUAAAUACUAACUCAUUGAUUACCUAACAUUUAAUUGAUACUAAGCAAUAUUACGUGGUCGGAUCAUAAUGCAAAAAUAAACAUUAUUUUUAUUCUACUAGUUCAACCAGAAUUUUUCCAUCUCUCUCUAUAAAUAAAUGGCACUAGUAGGGCUUUAAUCAUACCAACAAAAUACACACACACACACACACACACACACACACACACACACACACACACACACACACAAGUUUAACAUAAGUUCUCAAUAUUGUUAUUCUGGCAUAGAGUAGUGGUAAUUUAUUUUUUAUUUGUCAUAAGUUGAUAUGUCAAAUUAGGCUCCACAUUUAACAAAUUGCUUUCGAGCAAUUUAGUGGUAUUUAUCGUAUUUUUAGUUAGUUUUAGUUCUUUGCACUAAUAAGUGAAUUAGUGUGCAUUUUAUGCUAUUUUGAGAACCGAGAUGGCAAAUUGGCAUAUAGGGCAUCUGGCAAGGUUGGUGAGUAAUGCGGAGAGUCCACGGUGACCCGAAUAGAGUGAGGAAAUCAUCAAGAAGGGGGUGUCGCGAUAUCAAAGCAUCAAAGUCAUGAUACCCCUAAUAGUGUUGAAAACAAGGAAGAUUGAGUCACCAAUUGUGGUAUUGCGAUAACCAAAACUUUCAAUGACCCCCAUUUCAAGACUAUUGUAGUUAUCGCGAUACCAGGCUCUAGGUAUCGUGAUAUCAGUAUCGAUACCAGGCUCUGGGUCGCGAUAUCACUAUCGAAGUGAGACAAAAAUUGACCACAAGGGUAGUCAUUGUCCAACAUGUCCUUCAACCAAAAUUAGUGUGACACCCCAAAAUUAGUAUUUAUAGUUUGGUAGAUUUUAUCAAUAGUAAGUAUUUGUUUCGGUGAUUAAGGGCUUUAAUUAUGUGUUUACGGUAUUGGGUUCAAAUCUCAAAAUUCAAUUAUUUUUAUUUCUAGGCCGAUCUUUGUUCGUUGGGCUUAAAAGUUAUUUUCAGUUGAUUCAUAUUAGAAAAAGCUUAUUGGCUUGGGUGGUAAAAUGUUUACAAGUUUAUUUUGUGGUUUUGUGUUCGAUUCUUUGUGUGUGCAAGUUAGUAGUAUUUUUUGCUAUUUUUGAUUGGGUUGAUCAUUUAAUUGUUGUGGUCUAAUUGAACUCUAUCUAUAGGAAAAAAAAUUUGAUUUGUUAAAAAAAAUUUGAAUUGGUUUUAAAUGGGUUUUGUUUUAAAAUAGAUAAAAUAGGUUGUUUUUAUCUUGUUACUUUUGAAAUCAAUUUCAUUUUUGUUUUAUUUUUUUUAUUUUUGAAAACAAAACCCACAUUCCCUACUUCUAAUUUUCCCCCAAACCCACGCCGCUAAUACUAAAUGUUGUUAUUUGAUUUUAUUCUUCUUCAUUUCUUUUGUUUCUUGCUUGAAUUUCCUUUAAUCUUUUGGGCUGUCUUUGUGUUCGAUUCAUGUAUUUUACUCUGUUCUCCUUUGACGAUCUUGCUUCCUAUUUGUUGUUACUUUUGAGUUUCGUCAGGUAAAUUGUUGUGCUUUCUUUAGUAAGUUCGGAUUUUGGGAGUCCUGUUUUAAAUCUUGAUGUAGAAAUUUUAUUUUUAUAGGGAUAGUGAUUGUAGUUCGAUGACAGGUUUGUUGAGACUUGAUUAAUUUAGUAGGGUUUUCAUUGUUAAGUGAUAAUUCUUAAACGCCCAGCCUUCCUUCAGCAUCGUAAUUUCGUGAGGUUGUUGCUUGUUUAACGGUAAGAGUAUGGAGGUGUUUUAGUGUAUUGGAAGAGUUCAAUUCUUGGUUAUUUCAUGUCUUAUUACUAUUAUUAGUCGUAUUAUAUGUCGUAUUUAGGUUUUAGGAGUUUUGUUGUUGCAUUCUCGUCGAAUUCGAACCAGAUGUGUAAUGAGAAACCCGAAAAUCAGUGAUUGAAAAAAGCCCAAAAGGCAUUCUGUCGAUGAAUACGACUGUGUGGUAGGUGAUAGGUCGUAUGCUGGAGCAUGAGUGACACACGGUCUGGGCCGUUUGGGCUGUGUGGAUCACACGGGCAUGUGUGAGGUCAUGUGGGCCACACAAGCUGGCUAUUUGGGUCAUGUGGGACACAAGGGCGAGUGUGGGCCAAAAAUAUGAAAUUUACCUUAGGGCUGUGUGCAAGAUUCGAUCGAAUAAGGCCUUUCGUAUGGUCGGUAUGUGAGUAAAUGCACUAAAAAACAUGAAAUCUGGACAUCCAAUUGUAUAGUAUCUACUAUUUGCAAGAGUAACUAAGAUGUCGAAUGAUAAAUAAACCCUGAAGUUUAUGUUAAGUAUAUGAUUUGUAUCUGAUAUGUUGUGCAUGUAAAACUAUGGCAUGUAUAAUUUCUGCUCUGGACUUGUAUGACAUUUAGUAUAUUCUGUAUCUGUAUCUGGGUUGGGUUGUAAAUACCACGUAGAGGAAGUGAUUCUGCAAAAAAAGCUAUAAAUCACCUAUUGGUCCGGCAGCUCAGCUGCAACUAUUUUGUAAAGUGUCAUAUUAACACUAAGUGGUGUGUAGGGAUGGAUGGGUGUUUUAUACUCAUAUGGUGUGUUGGGAUGUUCAAAGAUGGUGUGUAGCGGUUGGGGGUAGGAUUAUAUGUCAUAUCUGUUCUGUUCUAUUAUAAAUAUGUUUAUGAUAAAUCCGUCUAAUAUACAUCUAAUUGCUUUAAGUAUUCGAUAUACACUAAGUUUUAAAAACUCACUUUUUGUUUGACUGAUAUUUUCAGGUAAUCCUCAGGCUUAGGUGGAUCGGUGCAAGCGAGAGCUCAAUUAAUGUCAUAAUCUAUUUAAAUUGAUUUAUUUAAGUUGUGGUAUUUUGAUUUUGUAAAUUUUUGGACUUUGUGGACUUUUUGGAUUGUUUAGUUUAUUUUUUAAAACUUAUUCCUGUAUUUUUCUUGAUACUACUUAAAUGAUUUAGUCGACAAAAUUUGCAUUCCUACCAAAAUAAAGGGCUUUUAAACAACAAACUGUGUUUAUCAAAUAUCUGUCUUCCGUUGCGAAAUUUAUAAAUUUUAAAAAAAUAUAAAAAAACAACUUUUUUAGUAAAUAGAACAAUAAGAAAUGAUUUUGUAUAAAAUUGAGAUUUUGAAAGUUUAUGACAAUUUUCCAUUUACUCAAAAACCAAGUUUUAAAUCAUAUUAAGUAGCAACUCCAGAUUUGGCCAUAAAGUCUAGGGCGGGUUUGGAGUUUUACAAUUAGACGAUCAAGGGGAAAUUGGUCACUAUUUUUGGGUUUGUAAACUACUAGAAUAGGCCAAUAUUGGUUGAGAAAAAGGGCACACUUCAUAGUGGCUAGUUUUUACAUUUUUCUCUUUAUCUUUUAGGGUUUACUCUUCUUCUCCAUAACUAUUGAGUCUAGUUUUCAUUUUUCUCUAAUUUUACUUUGCAAUUUACUAGUUAGUUAAGUUAAUUAUUACUAUAGCUAAGAUUUAUUUAUUUGUUUAGCACGUUAAACUCUUUUGUAUCUGCACUUUAAUUCUUUAGUUUAAUACCAUUUAGCUUUGUUAUAUUUCAUCUGCUAAAAGUUUUUUUUUGUUUAACUUUCUUAUUGUCAUUUUUUUGUUCCUCAAACUUUUGCCAUUAUUUCUUAAUUAUUUGUUGUUAGUGUGUUUAAAUACGAGCAUGAGUAGCUAAAUCCUAAGUGGUUGGUUGAUGGAAAUAAUGGUUAGUUGAUUUUUGGGUUCAGGGACUGAAUCCUAAAAUUUGAACUAAAUUGAAUAGACUUCAAAAUUUAGUAUUGAUGACCCUAAGGGAAAAUUUAGAUAAGUGAGAUUGAGAGGAGAUCUUAUUAGGCAUCAAUGCAAUUGUCUCAGGUCAGUUUGGUGAGGUCAAGUGAUAAACCAGAAUAAUUUGUCUAACUUGGUACAAUUGAUACUGGGAGGUAAAAUUAAACCAAUUAAGAGUAUUAACGAUUUAGAUCCCUAGUUCAAAAGUUAACCAACAACAUGGAAAUCAACUAUGAUUUACAAUUGACACUUGCAUGUUCACCAUGUAGAAAAUUAAUUAGUUACAUAGUUUGCAUAAUUUACAAUUUAGUCAUUUUCUAUUUCUAGAUAACUAAUUAGUUUAAUUCACCACCAAUUAUGUUUUAUCAUAAUAUAAUGCUUAGUGAGUAGUUAGCAAGACUCAUUUAAUGCAUGUUUGUAGCUUAGGAAUUGCUUAAUUGCCGAUUCCUUUGGGUUCGAUCCUUGGAAUACUCCAAUGUUCCAUGAACAUUAAAAAUAUUACAACUGACCUAUCACACUUGCAGCUACCCUUUUAUAUUUAAUUUUCUUAAUGUUAAUUCCUCGCUUAGCUACAGUGUUAGCGUGCCGGAGAUUGAGGAGCGGUUAAGUAGUUGGCACCGUUACUAGAAAGACGGUGUUUGUUUAAGCAAUUUUUAGUAUUGUUGCAUGUUUCUGUUGAAAAAAAUUCAGUUUGAAAAUGGUUAAAUUCAGUUUGAAAAUGGUUUUCUUGCACAGCAAAAAUUAAAAUUUUAAAAACUGAACCGGUUUGUGAUAUAAUUAAAAAUUUUAAAACUGACUCGGUUUGUGAUAUUUAUAGUAAUAAACCCUAAUUGAAUUCAUACUUGUCUUUCCUUCUUAGUGGACGUUCGUUAUUCCCAACUUUCAACUAAAUGAUCUUCUCCGCUAUUCUCAUACCAUGAACUACUUUGAGUGUAAGCUCAAACCAAUUGAAUCAAAACACAGAACUAGAAAAAAUUUUCUUUCCUUUAUUUGGGAUGAAAACAAAAAUUCUCUCUUCUUUAAUAGAAACCGAUGGAAUUAUCUCUAUUGUUUGACAAAGUAACAAUCUCUCAAAGUCGUAUGUUAUGCUCUACUGGUGUCAUAUAUUUAUAAGAAGAGAAGGUAGAACCCUUGUUGAGUUGUAGUGAUUUAUUUCAAAUAGAAAAACAACCUACUUAGAGUAGGAGUGGGGUGGACAGCACACCCUAGUAUUCCUACUAAGAUUCCUGCCCCUUUCAUGUUAUAUGGGGUUUUGAGUCUCUCUCACAUUAGGUUCAAUUACGACUACUUCCUAGCCCUUUUGACCUAGUACUAUGUAAUGUGAUCCAACCCAAUUUGGUUUUUCUAUUUCCCAAAAUAACAUUUAAUAUUCUAUAUUAAACAAUUUUCUCAUCCAUAUUUUACCCCUAGUAAAAUUUUAAUGAUUUUACCCUGAUAAAAUUUUGGGAAAUAUGAUUAAUAUUUCACAACUCAACAUGUUCACUGUGGCUGAAUGGUUUAUUUUCAUUUUCAGGCUUCAAAACAGCUCAAAAAUAUAAACUCAUUUUUUCAAUCAUUUUUAAGUAACUCAUAUAGAAUUGCAAAUGGAUCAUUUCCAUUUCCAUUUUGGAAACCUAUAUUCAUUUCCAAAUGAUUCCAUUUCUCCAUUUCGAAAAAACCUGUAAUCAUUCUUGAAUAUUUCUUAUUUAUCUUUUUCUAUUCAUUUCAUUCAUUUCUAUUCAAACACGCAAUUCAUUUAUGAUUUCAAUGAGCUAGCAGUGGUGUAACACCCUAUAUCCAAUCCAAAUUACCUAAUAUGGAUGUCGGAUGUUACAAAACUUAAACAAUUAGCAAAACUUUUACAAUAGUCGUAAAACCAUUCUAAAACAUACUUCUCAUUCCUUAUUAUAUUGUUCCUAAAACAAAAAGAUUAAUAAAAGAUAAUGUUUAAUAAUUACAUCAUAUUUAAAAAAAUAUGAUGUUACAACUUAAAACUUUGUUAAAGACAAACUUCUUCAUGGCGUAGAGAAGUAAGCACCAUAUUCCUAUGGUGUCCUUUGUAAGCAUAAUAUCACAACUCAAAUUGCUUGGGCCCUUCUGCUAUACUAAUUCUUUAAUCAAAACUUGCAUCAUAAAUAGACGUUUUUAAGUUCAAAUGAACUUACUUAAUUUUAACCCAAGUUACCUUCGAGCGUUUAUUUUUGAAUUCCUCAACCUGAAGAUUUUAGAUUUCUUUUCAGUUUUUGGUAGAUACUUUUCUAAUAUUGGGCGCAUACAUAAAUGAUAAUUUCCACAUUUGAUCACCAUAUACACAAUUCAUUAUUAGGCAGAUUAUAGAUUUCACCACCUAAUGCGGAUCUCAUUUCCUUUUUGGAAAAUGAAUGCAUUCCCCAUAAGGAUAUUCAUACAGAAUCUACCUUUGGCAGAUUCUCACAUAGACAUAUGUUGAACACUUCACCUAGAAUGGUGUACUCAUAGAUAUAAUUCUUGGCAGAUACUUAUAUUGAUUGAUAUCUUAAGAUGAACUUUAUAUGGAUCCUACCUUUGGCGGAUUCUUAUAUUGAUUUUGAUGGUUAUCGUGAUACUAGUCAGAUCAUAACUUAAAUCAUCCCAGACCACAAACUUAUUCUAAUGGAUGAAAUAUUCUAAGUCAUCUCAUGGAAUCCAAGACAACCAUGUUAUAUAUUAUGUAAACGCCCAGGUUUUGCGGACAACUUAGACUUCAUAUAACCUCUAUACAUAUUGUGAAAACGCUAAGAUUUGGUGGAUACUAUAGUAUUUAGAUAACUUCCAUACAUAGUGUAGACAAACUUAGGUCUGACGAACACUUAGACCACCCAUAACUACGAAUACACCAAGUUCUCUAUAAUGACAAGCUACUAUGACAAAUUCACUUUUCAAAAACAUUGCUGGGAACUCUUUUUAGGAAAUGCCCUUAGGGCAUAUUCAAUUUUUGCCACAAGGCUAUCCAAAUAGGGAUAUCUUCAAACUUACCCAGAUCUCUAUCAUAGAGCCAACUAGUGGAGAAGUCUCAAAGCUUACUCAGAUCUCGCCAAAAAGACGAUUAUCCAGAUUUCACCUCCAGGGCAUUACAGAAUACGCCAUAAAGGCAUCAAAUAAUUCUUCUUACCCUAUUGGUUUUCCAAAAAUGGUCUUGACCAUGGUCUUUCCACAUAUCUUUACACUGGCCUAUUCUUGUGUUUACUAUCCAAGUGGACUUCGUGUUUCCAGUUUUAACAAACUACAUUCUCACCAUAAUGGCCUUCAUUUUUACUAUCUCGAUAAACAUCAUCAAAUACCACCACGGGGUCUAAUAUCGUAUCAUAUAUUUUCCCAACACUUCACCAAACCUCUAUUCUCUAACUUCUUAGUAUGCAUUUCUCAUUUAACAUGGGACACACUUACUUAAAUUUCAUUCAUACUCCUAAUAGAUUCAUGCUUUCCAAUACCUAAUUUCACAUGCAUGCAUAUCACACAUCAUCUUGUUCAUUUAGCACAUCAUAUACCUCAUUUGCAAACAUGCAGAGGCUUUAGAUACUUCACAUACACAUACACUCGUUAGUUAUCCAAGAAGACAUCAAAAUAUGAAUAACCAUUGUAAAUUGACCGUUCUAGUAAAAGCAUUUCCACCAAUAUCACAAUCAUUGGAUGCAAUAAUUUUAGGUGGAAACGAUUGCAAACCAUGACUGUGUAUAUUAAAUGCAUCCCACAACAUACCUUCCAUGUCAGCUUCUCUAACAGGCUGAUGGUAAGCAUUAUGAGGAUAAGCCGGAUUAAUCGUUGAAGAGGUUCUACGAGGUGUACACUCUCCAUGAAAAAUCCAUUUUUUAUACCCCCGAAUAAAGCCAUCAAUAAUUAGAUGUUUGUAGACAACUUUAGGAAAAUGCCAAUUGAUGUUGCCAAACUUCUUACAUGGCCAAAGAAUCAUAUUCUCGUGGCUUGUAUUUUGAAAUGCAAAAUUUAGAAAAGUUUGUACUCCAUUUCAAUAGUCGUUACUUACCAUUGAUAAAUCUAUUUCGUAGUUCUUGAAGUCUAAAGUUGAUAAUAAAUUAUGGUUAGUUAAGUGUUCUAAAUAGAUUCAAAUCAUGUCAUUGUACUAAAAUAGAUAAUAUAUAUGUCAAGAAUCAAGUGUCUAAUUAUUUAAAAUAUAUAUAUCAAUGACAACAUUUUACGUUUGGAUACGCCAAAUUUGCUAUAAAAAAUUUAUAAGAAUAAUUAAGAGUGGGGAAAAACAAUAGUGUUGCCCUAAUUUCUGUGAUUUUUAUAUAUUCUGAUCCAAAGUUUUAUGUAAGUUAUGAUAUAAUAUAUUUUUUAUAUUCUCUAAAUGUUAGAAACUACAUUUUUUUAUAUUCUUUAAAUGUUUAUGUAAAUUAAUCGAAAAUUAAUUAAUUAUUCAUAAAAUUAUUAUGAAAUAUAAUUGUUUAUUUAAUUAAUAAAAAUAAUUAAUUAUUCAUAAAAUUAUUAUGAAAUAUGAUUAUUUAUUUAAUGAAUCAAAAAUUAAUUAAUUAUUCAUAAAAUUAUUAUGAAAUAUGAUUAUUUAUUUAAUUAUUCAAAAAUUAAUUAAUUAUUCAUAAAAUUAUUAUGAAAUAUGAUAUGGUUAUUUAUUUAAUUAAUCGAAAAUUAAUUAAUUAUUCAUAAAAUUAUUAUGAAAUAUGAUAUGUUUAUUUAUUUAAUUAAUCAAAAAUUAAUUAAUUAUUCAUAAAAUUAUUAUGAAAUAUGGUUAUUUAUUUAAUUGGUCAAAAAUUAAUUAAUUAUUCAUAAAAUUAUUAUGAAAUAUGAUUAUUUAUUUAAUUAAUCGAACACUAAUUAUUCGUACAAUUAUUAUGAAAUAAGAUUAUUUAAUUAAUUAAUUGGAAAUUAAUUAAUUAUUUGUAAAAUUAUUAUGAAAUAUGAUUAUUUAUUUAACUAAUCAAAAAUUAAUUAUUCAUAAAAUUAUUAUGAAAUAUGAUGAUUUAUUUAAUUAAUAAAAAAUUAAUUAAUUAUUCGUAAAAUUAUUAUGAAAUAUGACCCAGCAUUUUGGGUCAACCCACGUGAUCUUAUCUUCUCUACAAGUAACCCACACAAUUAACUUGGUUCAUUAUAUAAUAAGGCAAUGGAUUAUCACUAUCAUUAGGAAUAUUUUGGUUUUAAAUAUAAAACGUGUAUCUAGUUAGUAGAGAAAAAAAUUAAAAUUUGGGAAUACUUGGAUUGAGAUGGGAAAAUUAAUAUAUACAUUUUGGUAAGUUAAAAAGGAAAAUGUGGGAGUGGUUAGUAACUAACCAAACCAAGUGAUGCCUAACUUUGGAUGGAAAUGUCCAACAGGAAACUUGGUCAAGGAUAAGCUAUUUAUGUACAUACAAUAUUGUCAACUAUACUAAUAUUUUACUAUUGGUAGCAGCAUGAAUUAAGAGGGUAGAACAAGCUGAAAGCAGAAAAAAUCAAAGAGACAGAGAGACGAAGGCAACAUAAUUGUUAGUAUAAAAUGAAAAGAAAGUAAGUAGUCGUAAAGAAACUAUCAGCAAAAAAAUAUAUAUAUACUGCAGCAAGAACUACCUACCUGUGUUUCAGCAAUCGACUUCCUUAGAAGUUCUUCCAAUAGAUAGUGCACCUAAAGAUCAAAGCACAUGGCAUUCAACUGUCAGAAUAAGAGUCGUAUAGAAAUUUCACUUUUAGCAAACUUAAAAAAGAACCAAUAGAAUUUAACCAAUUCGAAAGUUUAAAAAUUUAUCUACUACACAUAACUAAAAUUAACCAAUUCAAAAACAAUAAUAAAUAAGUGUUACACAUAUCAUAUGCAUGGUUUCUUUUAAAUAAGUGUUACACAUUCUAGUUGGCAACAUGUGCUAGCAGUGCCACCACACCCCUGAAAUCAACUAAACUAAGAACUCCCAAUAUCUUACUCUUGUUUCAGUAUAAACUAAGAAAAAACAUGAGAUUAGAACUAGAUGAAAAUGGCCAAAUUCAAAUGCAUUCAAUAAACUAAUUAAAAUUGUUGGAUUGUGCGGUAAGGAUUUAGAUUUCUUAAGCAUCAUUUCAAGUUUCAAUCUUGUAAAACAGUGUUGAAAGAAUUUUUUGAAAAGAAAUCUGACCUAAUUCAGUUUCACAUAUAAUAAAAAAAUUUUAAGAUAAAAAAAUUCCAAUUAGCUAUGAACGUAUAAUAACUAAAUUCACAAUUUACACAGAACUAAUAACAAAAUUUUAACCUACAAACAAUGAUUUCAUUCUCAAUUCACGGCUCUAAAAUAUGAACAAUUCUUAAAUGAAUACAACUGUAAAACAAUUGGCCUUGGUUACAACAUUUUGGUCUUUCCCAAACAUUUCAAGAACUUUGUCUAUAUAUGGUUUUCUAACAGUAAUUAAUUAACAUAAAGUUGUCAGGUUUUUUUCAUUUUUUUUUUGUAAACACAAAUCGAGCAGUAAUUAGAAGCCUAAUUAUGAAGCAAAAAAAUACACCUGCAAGCCCAAGCUAAAAGAAGAGAAAAGAAAGGCUGAAUAUGAGAGAAAACAUAUGAUUUUCAAACAAAACCAGAAGAAGAAAAACCUGAAGAGAAAGAAGAGCUACUCUCCAUUGGUGUUGAAGGGACCGUUUUAUGCAAAUCAGUUUCUAAUUACUGCCCCAUAGCAGGUAAUGCAGCUUUGAACAUUGUGUAUAUAGUACUAAGUUUGGUUCAAUUCUAUUUCACGCUUUUUACUAACAUAAACUUUCUUAUUUAAUAUAUUCAUGUUUUCAUAAACUAUUUCAUAAACAGAAUAACAAACUGGUAACUGUUGUUAUACGCAAAUUCAGCUAACGGUAGGUGAUCCUCUCAACUACCCCUGAAGUCAAUCACACAGCUCCUAAGCAUAUCUUCUAAAAAUAUUUGAAUAACUCGCUCAGAUUAUCCAUUAGGCUGAGGAUGGUAUACAGUAUUGAAAUCUAGUCUUGUACCUAAAGCCUUGUACAAUUUCUUCCAGAACCUGGAGGUGAAACAUGGAUCCUUCUUACAAUCUCAGACACGUAUAGUUUACCCAACUUCUGUAGCGAAUAAUCGAUUCUAAUUGCUACGCAUAACACUUACUGAAAAAGUUACAAAUUUAAUUUAAUUUAUUACAUUACAAUUUAUAUAUGUAUCAACAUAAAUAAACAUAUAACAUUAAUCUAUUGCUAAUUUAAUAAAAAUAAUCAAUUUUACAUUAAUCGAAAUUUCACUAUUGGUAGUAAUAAAAAUAAAUAAAAUAAGAAGCAUUCAUAUAUAAUAUAAAUUUUAUUAACAAUUAUUUAAUUAUACAUUAAAGUAUAUAUAAAAUAUUAUAAUAUUCAAUAAUAAAAAGCAGCCAGGUACAUAUUUUUGUUCAAAAAAAAAACAUCAAUGUUAACGGUAAUUAAAAUAAAUAUAAACAAUUAAUAUUUUUAAUAAAAAAGAUAAAAUAGUUGAUUUAAUAAUUGUUAGUUUUAUUUUAGAAGAAAUAUGCCAUAACUAAAGAGGCAAAAAGAAUGAAUAAAUUUAUAUUUUAUCAACAAUAAUUUAUUUUAUCAAUGUAAAUAUAAAAAAUCUCAAUAUUUAAUUUAAUAAAAAUGAGCAAUAAAGGAAUUUUAUUUAACAAGGACAUUGACUUUAAUGGUAAUAAAAAUAAUUAUUACUUUAUUCUAAUAAAGAAAACAAUGAAUAACAAAAAUUUAUGAACAAUAAUUUCUUUUGUCAAUUUAAAUAUAAAAAAUAACAAAGUAGGGUCUUUAUUUGUCAUCCGCUAAAUAACAAAUGCAACUAAUGAUGAAGUGCACAUUAAAGUUAAACCAACGAUUUGCCUUCGCUUUUUCUUCAUCCAAAUUGUUUUUUUGCUUUCAAAUCCUCAAAUCUGUGUUUGUGAUCAUUUCCACUAAUUGUUUUCAGUUCACAUUUUCUUGUAUUCUUGUAUUCUGAAAAGCAAACUUUCUUCUUACCUUGAUUUCCACUUCGAAAAAGAAACAGCGCAGAGAAUUGUUCAGUGAAGGGAAGUUUUGAGGAACUGCUCCUCAUUAUUGUUGGAUCUAAGUGCUACAGCAGCAAGCUUCAACAGAAUGCUUGUCGAGCAAGUCUCGUGACUUGCAGCAGAAACAAAGCAGAAAACUCAAAUAGAUUUUGAAGCAAAACUAAAAAUGGAGAGCAUAUGGAUGAAAACUUGUUGAAUUCAUUCAAAAAACUGAAUAUGGCUUAAAGCCAAUACAUAAACAAGCUUACAACUUGAAAAAACAGUAGGUUAACCUAAACUUCACCUACUACCACUAACAAACUUAGUAACUUGAGCUAAUUAACUUGUACAAAUCAAAAAAGCUGAUUAAUCAGCUCAAUCACCAUCAGUUUUACAUCAAAUAUAAACCUAACAUAGUUGAAAUACAACUAAGUUACAUUGCAUUAACUUAAAAAUACAAAAUAAGUGAAAACACAGCUUGCUGGCUUGAUGAACUUGCAGCUUCUGCAUGUAGUGCCCUCGACAGUCUUGGUUGCUGCAUGCUGACCAUUGCUUCAACACUCCUCCUUGGUUAGCAUGUUGCAAACUCCCAUAUUAGUUCUUAGGUGUUGAAACUUGGAAACACUGAGUGUCUUUGUCAAAAUGUCAGUAGUUUGCUCUUCAGAACUACAAUGAACUAAUUUGAUAACAUGAGCUUGCUCCAUUUCUCGAACUGCAUGAAGUUUGAUGUUGAAAUGCUUGGUCCUUCCAUGAAAGACAGGGUUCUUUGCAAUUGCAACAGCAGAUAGGUUGUCACACAUUAUCUCUGUUGCUUCCUUUUGCUCAUGGUUAAGAUCAGCUAAGAUUUUUCUAAGCCAUAUGGCUUGAUUAACUGCUGCAGCAGCAGCUAUAUAUUCAGCCUCUGCAGUAGAUUGUGCUACUACUGCCUGUUUCUUUGAACUCCAGCAAAUCAUACCAGAGCCUAGGUUGAAUGCAUAACCUGUUGUGCUCUUCAUAUCAUCCAAAGAACCUGCCCAAUCACUAUCACAAUAGCCAACUAACUUUAAGUUCUCAGCCUUGGUAAAUUGCAUUCCAUAGGACAAAGUUCCCUUGAUGUAUCUUAGAACUCUUUUUGCAGCUCUAAAGUGACUUUCAUUUGAGCAAUGCAUGAACCUUGAGAGUAGACUCACAGCAUACAUUAUAUCAGGUCUGGUAGCAGUCAAAUACAACAAACAUCCAACUAAACUUCGAUAGGUUGUUUCACAGACCUUUUCAUGCUUAUCUUGGCUCGACAGUUUUUCUCCAACAGCAAUUGGUGUGCUGGUUGCUUUGCAAUUCUCCAUUGAGAAUUUGUUGAGAACCUUCAUAGCAAAGGUCUUUUGACUAAGCCAAAUUCCAUUUUCAGCUUGAGUUACUUCCAUGCCUAAGAAGUAAGACAUCAAUCCCAAGUCAGACAUCUCAAAGUGCUGUUGCAUUUUAGCUUUAAAGCUGCUUAGCAUCUCUCGAUCUCCUCCUGUCACCAGUAAGUCAUCGACAUAUAUUGACACAAUGAGCUGAAUUUCAGUAUUAGUCAAUUUAACAUAGAGAGUUGGCUCACUUAGACUUCUCUCGAAUCCCAAACUGGUCAGAUAUCCAUCAAUUCUGCUAUACCAGGCCCUUGGAGCCUGUUUCAAGCCAUACAAGGCUUUGUUGAGUUUGUACACCAUUUCUUCCUUGCCAGACACCUUGAAACCUUGAGGUUGCUCCACAUAAAUCUCCUCUUCAAGGAAUCUAUUCAGAAAUGCUGAUUUUACAUCAAGUUGGUGUAUCAGCCACUGUUUUUGUGCUGCUAAGGCAACUAGCAGUCUGAUGGUGUCUAGCCUGGCCACUGGUGCAAAGGUUUCCAGGUAGUCUGAUCCAUACCUUUGACUGAAGCCUUUCACAACCAAUCUAGCCUUUAACUUUUUUAGGCUACCAUCAGCAUUAUUCUUGACUCGAUAAACCCAUUUGACACCAAUAAUCUUCCUGUUUGUUGGUCUAUCAACCAGACUCCAGGUCUGAUUCUUUUCAAUCAUCCUGAUUUCUUUAAUCAUUGCUUGCUUCCAGUCCUCCUGGCUUUCUGCUUCUUCAAAGCAACUUGGUUCAACAGUAGCCACUUGUGCUCUUUCAUAAACAUCAGCCAGUGAUCGAGUGCCUCUGAUUGGAACAUCAUCUACAUCCAUUUCAGGUGUGUUUUCAUCAUUUUCAACUUGGUCCAAUGCCAGAUCUUCAGCCACUGCCUCUGGUUCAGCCUUCUCCCAAUUCCAGUGUCCUUUUUCAUUGAAAACAACAUCCCUGCUAACCAAUAUCUUGUUUGUAGCAGGUUCUAGGAUUUUGUAGCCCUUUUUAACCAAGCUAUAGACGAUCAGGAUCCCUGAUUGAGCUCUUUUAUCUAGCUUGCUUCUCUUCUCAGCUGGAACUUGAGUGUAGCACAGACAACCAAAGGUUCUGAGAUGAGCCAGUGAUGGCUUAAACCCAAACCAGGCUUCAAAUGGAGUCUUCUUAGCCAGAGCCUUGGUUUGGAGCCUGUUUUGGAGAUAAACUGCUGUGUUAACAGCUUCAGCCCACAGAGUUUUGGGCAAAUUCUUCUCAAACAGAAGACAUCUUGCCAUGUUCAUCAAGCUUCUAUUUUUCCUUUCACUGACCCCAUUCUGUUGGGGUGUAUACACAUUAGUCAACUGGUGUUUGAUACCUGCUUCUUCACAGUAGGCUUGUAACUGAGCUGAGGUGUACUCAGUUCCAUUAUCUGACCUCAUUGCUCUAAGUUUGCAACCAGACUCAGUUUCAACAGCAGCUUUAUACUUCAGGAACACAGAUGGAACUUCUGAUUUCUGUUUUAGAAAAUAAAUCCAGCAGUAUCUUGUAAAGUCAUCAAUAAAUAGAAUAAAGUACCUGCUUCCUUUGAGAGACUCAGUCUUCAUUGGUCCACACACAUCUGUAUGCACAAUCUGGAGCUUCUCUGAUGCUCUCCAUGUUAUGCUUGUUGGAAAUGGCAAUCUUGCCAAUUUUCCUUGCUGACAUAUCUCACAAAACUCAUCAUUCUUCACUGAAUUGAUGAAAUUUUCUGCCAGACCUUCAUUGACCAUGCGGGCUAUGGAUUUGUAGUUUGUAUGUCCAAGCCUCUGAUGCCAGAGUCUAGAGUCAUCAGUGGAGGCUAUGCAGGCUGAAUGUAAGUCAUUUGGCCAGUCUACUUCAAAACAUUUAUCAGUCAUGGUGACUGUUAUGAGGUUUAAUCCACUUGGAUAAAAAAUUUGACAUUCUUUCUCCUUGAACACAACUGAGUAGCCUUUCUCAAGUAGUUGAGUUAUACUGAGAAGGUUCCUAUCGAUUUCAGGUACCAAAAGUACAUUUGAAAUGAUUUUUCCACCUGUAGAGGUAUGAAUCAGCACAUCUCCUCUUCCUUCAGCAUUAAUCAACUGACCAUUUCCAAUUUUUACCUUGGUUUUACAGGUUCUGUCCAGGGUUUUGAAGAUAGUUGCAUCUGGUGACAUGUGGUUUGUGCACCCACUGUCUAGAAGCCAGCCCUUUGAACCCUUCUUCUGAUUUGCUGCACAUGACACAGCAAAAACAUGUUCUUCUUGAUCACUGCUUUCUUCAGCUACUCGAGCUUCUACCUUUUGUUGCUGAAAUUGAUUCUGUCUUGGUUUGCUUCUAUUCUUGAAAACUUUUUCAACAUGGCCUUUUUUCUUGCAGUGUUGGCAUACUGCAUCUGGUCUAAACCAGCAUCUAUCUUCUGGAUGACCAGCUCUUUUACAAUGUCUGCAGAGUUGGUCACUGCUCCUAGCAGCAUCAGGCUUAGGCCUGUUUUUCCAAAACUUUUUGCCUUUGUGAGUUUUGAUGCUCGAGGCUUCUUUGGCUUGAAAAGCCCCUUCCUGGUGCUCUUCUUGUCUACUGGCUCUUCUUUGCUCUUGUGCAUACAAGGCAUUGAUUAGCUCAGUUAAGGAGAUAGUUGUCAAGUCCCUUGAGUCUUCGAGGGAUGAAAUUUUAGCUUCAUACCUCUCUGGUAGAGUGGACAUGACUUUCUCAACUAUUCUAACUUCACUGAAUUGCUCUCCUAGGAGCCUUAUGCUGUUUACAACAGCCAUAAUCCGAUCUGAGUACUGCUUAACUGUUUCUUCCUCUUUCAUUUUGAGAUUUUCGAAAUCUCUUCUCAAGUUGAGCAGCUGUUGUUGCCUUGUUCUCUCAGUCCCCUGAAAUUCUUCUUUCAGCUUGUCCCAAGCCUCCUUUGGUGUUUCACAGGCCAUGAUCCUCAUAAAGAUCACAUCUGUCACACAAUUCUGUAUGCAUGACAUGGCCUUGUGCCUUUUUGUUCUUUCAUCAGUGUGUUGCCUUAUUUGAGCAACUGUUGGAUUAGCUCGAAGAGGUGCUGGCUCAGCAUCUGAGUUAACAACUUCCCAUAGGUCGAAUGCCUGCAGGUAAGUCCUUAUCUUAACUACCCAAAUGUUGAAGCCCUCUCCAUUGAAGACAUGUGGUGAAGCUGGUGAAAAACCUGAUGAUGCCAUGGUUUUGAUACUGAACUACAACAGGUCCUCUAAGAAUAUGGCUCUAGAUACCAAUUGUUGGAUCUAAGUGCUACAUUAGCAAGCUUCAACAGAAUGCUUGUCGAGCAAGUCUCGUGACUUGCAGCAGAAACAAAGCAGAAAACUCAAAUAGAUUUUGAAGCAAAACUAAAAAUGGAGAGCAUAUGGAUGAAAACUUGUUGAAUUCAUUCAAAAAACUGAAUAUGGCUUAAAGCCAAUACAUAAACAAGCUUACAACUUGACAAAACAGUAGGUUAACCUAAACUUCACCUACUACCACUAACAAACUUAGUAACUUGAGCUAAUUAACUUGUACAAAUCAACAAAGCUGAUUAAUCAGCUCAAUCACCAUCAGUUUUACAUCAAAUAUAAACCUAACAUAGUUGAAAUACAACUAAGUUACAUUGCAUUAACUUAAAAAUACAAAAUAAGUGAAAACACAGCUUGCUGGCUUGAUGAACUUGCAGCUUCUGCAUGUAGUGCCCUCGACAGUCUUGGUUGCUGCAUGCUGACCAUUGCUUCAACAAUUAUAUUAUGGGUUCAUGAAACUUCAUCUUCCUUCCUCUAUUUUUUCAUAUUUUUCUUGAAUGCCAUUUAGUUUGUGUUGGUGUUUGCAUUUGAGUGGAUCUCCGUUUUAUUUAUUGGCCUUCUUAUUUUUCUAUUACGUACACUAAAUAAACUCCUUUUAUCUUUUACAGCUACAAUCUGUACUAGUUAUUUCUCAGAAGCUCUAUUUACUUUCUGGUAUUUACAGAGAGAAAGAGAGAGGUAAGUUCAAGAGUAAUUUCUAGCUUCUUCAAUAAUAAUAUCUUUGCUUUAUAAGAAUAAUUACAACUUCUUAAUUGGUAGCUUUCAUUAGAUUUUUUACUACUCAAAAUUCACUAGAAAUACUGAUUUUAUUUGUCUUUAUGUUAAUCUUCUUACUAAUAACCAUAGUUUUUGUUCAACCUCGUCAGACUAUCAAGAAAAAUGACCGAAUAUGUUGGCCCUACUGCUGUCAAAAUUUUGACAAACCAGGCAAAGGAAUGCGCAUCACCUUAUCUCCGUUACGUUUUCUGCUAUGGAGAGAUUGUUGAAGAUUUCACCAAUCAACGAAACGCACUUAAAUUGAGGAAACAUAUGGUGAAAACUCGUGUCGAUGAGGCUAAAAGGCAACUUGAGCACAUCCAUGAGGAUGUUGAGGACUGGCUUAGAAGGGCUGAGAGAGAACUGGAAGAAACCCAGAACUUGAAGCAUGAAAUAGAUCGCGUCAAGUGUUUCAAAUGGUGUCCUAAAUGGGGCUGGCGAUGUUGCUUAAGUAAGAAACUGGCAGAGAACACUUCUAUUAUCUCUAAAUUUUUAGAGACUUCUAACUCUGCACAGGUAAGCUAUCAUGGUUCUCUUCAAGGAAUAGAGUUCACCACACCCACGGAUUCCGUGGGCCCUGCAUCUUCAAAAUCAACUUUAAUCGGGAUCAUGGAGGCUAUAAAUUAUAACGGUGUCAACAUGAUUGGACUGUACGGAAUGGUAGGAGUCGGGAAAACAACUUUAGCCAAAGAAGUUGGGAAGCAUGCUCGAGAACAAAAGCUCUUUGAUAAAAUUGUGAUGUUUACUGUGUCUCAAAAUCCAAAAAUCAAUAAAAUUCAAUAUAAAGUUGCAGAUUUUUUUGGUUUAAAAUUUGAAACAAGUAGCCAAGAAGGAAAAGCAGAAGCGCUUUUCAGGAGUAUGCAAGGCGUGAACAAAAUCCUCGUAAUUAUUGACGACCUCUGGGAAGAAUUCAAAUUGGAAAGCAUCGGAAUUCCUUUCGGUGAUGGACACAAGGGUUGUAAAAUUCUUCUGAACAAACGUCACAACAAGUCUGCAUUAAAAUGAACUGUCACAAGGUGAUUCAACUUGGCAUCUUAUCCGAAGAUGAAGCAUGGGUUUUGUUUCGAGAAAGAUCUAGUUUAGAUGAUUACUGUUCCUCCUUGAAUGAUGUAGCCAAAGAGGUUGCUGGUGAAUGUAAGGGAUUGCCUCAUGUACUUGAUACCGUGGCAAGAGCUUUAAAAGAUGAGAGUUUGGAUGCGAGGAGAGCCUUAAAGCAGAGAUUCAAGGACUCAAAGGCAUUUGGUUAAUGAAGAAGUUCUCGAAGAUUUCUUCAAGGGUCUUAAGCUUAGCUACGCUUAUUUGAAGGAAGGCAAUAACCAAAUAACGGAAAAUGACAUCCAAAUGUGUUUCUUACUGUGUUCCCUUUUUCCUGAAUAGGAAGAAAUCCGUAUUGACAUCCAAAUUGGAGUAGGAUUGUUCACUAAUGUUCACUCGAUUGAAGAUAAAAGUAAAGAAAUUGGUAUGGCACUAAAAAAAACUCCAAAAAUCUAGCUUGUUAUUGGAAACUUAUGAUGCAAAAACGAUAAGUGGUUCGAGAUUUUGCUCAUCGGCUAACAUCAACAGGAGAAAAUAGGUUUAUGGUAAAAGAUGAGGUGAAAGAAUGGCCUCAUCUGGAUGAAAGUUUUGGAUGUUAUACUGCAAUCGCUUUAUGGAAUUGUAGUAGUAACAUAAAAAAAAUUCCUCAUAAACUGGAAUUAUCUUUAACAGUUUGGUAACCGAUAUUUAACUUUUUUUUCAAAAGUAUAUGAUUUAAUCAUUCCACAUACAAAAUAAUUUACUUACAUGAGUUUUUUUUCUAAACCUCGUAAUUUGUGUUACAUAACUUGACAAAUUAUUCGUUGUUAAGGAUAAUAAAACGGUUAAAGAAGUAGUUAGUGAAGGUUGGAAGGUUAGCUAGUUUGUUAAAGAAAAGAAGUUUUCUGUGAGUAUAAAAACGAUGGUCUGGCUUUGUAUUGAGGCAAGUAAUAGUCUAAGUUCAUUUUUGUACCAGAGUUCAUUUUAAGCAAAUGAUUGUUUGAAGAGAAAUUCUCAAAGUUACCUAGUUUUCUUCAUGGUAUCAGUCGCUAGGUGUUCUUGAUCAUGGCAACAACAAACUCUGUUGCGUCAGACUCUGCUGAAGUACAUGGAUCUGUGUUUACUGCUGAACGUGUGGUGAAUUCGCUUCCUCGACAUGACGUUGUGAAACUUGAUGAAGGAACAUUUCUUCAAUGGAAGCAACAGGUGAGAUUCAUUGUUAAUGGCUAUGAUCUAUUUGGUUUUCUUGAUGGCUCUAUUGCUGUGCCGUCGAGGUUUGUGCAAGCACCGGAUGGUGCACUUGUGGUAAAUCCCGUGGCUUCCGUGUAUCAGCAACAGGACAAUCUUCUCACGUCCUGGCUUCUUUCCACCAUAAGUUCCUUCAUUCUCUCAUCCUUUAUGGAUGUUCAGUCGGCGAAGGAUGUGUGGACCAUGGCGUUGGAAAUGUUUGCGGCCGAUUCUGAUCAACGGCAGUCGCGAUUGCGUCAUGAGCUUCACUCUCUCAAGAAAGGAAGCAUGUCGAUCCGUGAUUAUGUUGCGAAGUUAAAACGUGUGUGUGCUCUGUUGGAAUCCUCUGGAUCUUCCAUUUCAAUGGCAGAAAGGACGGCGAUGCUUCUUGCAGGGCUUCCGUCUGAGUUUGAAGGUGGCGUCUUGUCGGCUUCGUUGUCUCCGACUCCGUUGUCGUUUCCACGACUGGUUGAGGCGUUACUAGAGUGUGAAACUCGACAUGCUCAGACCAGUCAAGAGGUGGUGUAUGCUGCAAAUCUGGUGGAGGAUGUGUCUACGGAUGAUUCGUCGCGAGGAGGGCGAUCGGGGGCGCGUGGUCGUGGAAGGACGUUUCAGCCGUGACUUCAGUGCCAGAUCUGCUCUCGGUUUGGACACGUGGCUCAAAAAUGCUAUUAUAGGUACCAUCGUGAUGAGUCAUCUCCGGUGCCACCUCCGCAGCAAAACCAGAUGCUGAAUCUUUACUCCGGCGAUGGUGGCUGGCCGUCUCACCCAAACACUAGACCUAAGGUUUCUAAUUUUGGUCAACAACAUUAUGGGACUAAUCAAGUUAAUUGUGCUACAGGUCAAAAUUGUUUUGGGCCUGGUCAAAAUUCAUAUGAUUUUGGUCAAAAUUGGUGUGCUGAAGGGGGCUUCAAUACGCAGCGUGGACGCCAGCAGGUUGGGCCAAAUGGGUGGCUUAAGCCGAGUGAUGAACGGCGAGAUUUCAGGCGUCCAACUCCUGGGCCGCAAGCUGGUAGGCCAAAUGAUGGUGUACAUGGAGGGUUUGGCAUGCCGUCUUAUGUUGGGUCGAAUAUUGGGCAGAAUGUUGGGCCAAAUGUUCCUCCUCCGAUGCCCACAAAUCCGUUUGUGAAUAAUGUUCAGCUCUAUCCAGCUAAUCUGAUCGGUACCACGAUAGUUCCAUGGCGAACCAAGCCGCGUGCGUGAGUAUUUUCCGCCUCAAACCCCUGUUUUGGACUUCCUAGGUUGGGAGAUAUACAUGCGUCAGACUAUUCUGAUCCGUCGAUCUCUAGUUCUCAUGCUAAAUCCGAUCGACAUAGAGUGAGUGGGGAUGAGUCUGGCUCACUGAUUCCUGGACCAGUUGGGACGUCGUAUUGGUAUUCUGAUUCAGGAGCCAACAAUCAUGUUUGUCGAGACCCGUCCGAUUUGCAUCAUGCCAAUCCUUAUUCAGGUACGUCUUUUAUUUUAAUGGGUGAUGGUACACCCGCAAUGAUAUCAUCCGUUGGUCAAAGUGUUUUGCCGACUCGGUCUAGGUUGCUUCAGCUAUCUAAUGUUUUAUAUGUCCCAACUAUUCGGAAAAAUUUGUUAUCAGUAUCACAAUUUGCAACUGAUAAUGGGGUGUUUUUUGAGUUUCACUCUACUUAUUGUGUGAUUAAGGAUAACGUGACACAGGAGGUUUUACUGACGGGGCAUAUUCAUAAUGGGCUAUACCGGUUCUCAUUACCAGAUGGUGUUCCUAGUAUGUCUGCUGCUUAGGUAGAAUGUUCGACUUCGACUGCAGACAGUGAGUUGUUUUCGUUAUGGCAUAAGCGUCUUGGACACCCGUCAUCUAUUGUUGUUAAAAAUGUUUUACAUAAGUGUCAUGUUCCUUUGAAUAAAGUCUCUAUUAGUGAUGUUUGUACUGCUUGUAAAAAGGGUAAACUUCAUAAGUUGCCAUUUUCGGCCUCCAAUACUGAGUAUACUGAUCCCUUUUCGUUGGUUGUAUCUGAUGUAUGGGAACCUACUUCGGUUGCUUCUAAUAACAAUUGGUACUAUGUGUCGUUCAUUGACAUGAGUUCUCGAUUUACUUGGGUAUAUCUAAUUCGGCAAAAGUCACAAGUUAUGACCUGUUUUAUUCAGUUUCAGAAACUUGUUUACAAUCAGUUUGGCAAGACCAUCAAGCAGUUCCAGAGUGACUGGGGUGGUGAGUGUCGUGCAUUGGCUUCGGUUUUAGCGUCCCAAGGUAUUGUUCAUCGUGUGUCGUGUCCGCACACUUCUGAACAGAAUGGUGUUGCCGAGCGUAAACAUCGACACAUUGUGGACAUGGGGCUUACACUUUUAGCUCAAGCAGGGCUUUCGAUGGAGUUCUGGCCAUAUGCGUUUACGUGUGCCGUUCAUCUAAUAAAUCGUCUUCCCACACCAGCGCUGGAUGGUAAGACACCGUAUCGUGUGCUCUAUUGGCAAGACCCUACUUAUGAUCAUUUACGUAUUUUUGGAUGUUGUUGCUAUCCAUUUUUGCGCCCGUUUCAGCUUCAUAAAUUAAAAUUUCGGUCUCAACCGUGUACGUUCUUGGGCUACAGCCCUUGUCACAAAGGAUAUCAGUGUCUAUUGCCGGAUGGUCUUAUUAUUGUCUCGCGACAUGUAGAGUUUGAUGAGUCUCGGUUCCUCUCUCCAACGAGUGUAUCUCGUUCACGGGAGGUGAGUACUAUACCUACCUACUUUCCUAUUCUUGAGACUAAUCUGUUAUUGGGAAUGAAUUCUAUUUCUGGAAAUGUUUGUCCACCUAGUGUAUCUGGGUCUCUGAGUCCUCAGAAUGGAGUGGAUGUUAGUCCAACAAAUACUAAUUGUCAUAAUACUCCCUCGUUGAAUGAGGUGUUGACUGAAGGUGAUAAUGAUCAUCAUGAUUUCUUGAAUUCUGAAACUCAGUCUUUCACGCCUGUUGUUCGAGUUCCGUCCGACCCUACAGGGCCAGAUGUGUCGGUGCCUAAUGUGAAUGUUCAUCCUAUGACCACUCGUUUGAAGGCUGGUAUUUUUAAACCUAAGGCUCUUGCGGUUGAGGUUGUCGAACCAUCAACGAUUGAAGAAGCUGUCACUAGCCCUGAGUGGCAAGCUGCUGCUCAAGCUGAGUAUGACGCUUUAAUUCGGAAUGGUACCUGGGUACUUGUUCCUAUGCCAUCGGGUCGCAAAGUUAUUGGUUGCAAAUGGUUGUUUAAAGUAAAGAAAAACCCAGAUGGCAAAGUUGAACGAUACAAGGCACGUCUGGUGGCAAAAGAAUGUUCUCAAGUUCCAAAGUGUGAUUUUCAGGAAACAUUUAGUCCAGUUGUAAAACCUGCUACUAUAAGGGUUAUCUUGUCCAUUGCGGUUACUAAAGGAUGGUUACUUCGACAAGUUCAUGUUAACAAUGCCUUUUUAAAUGGUGAUGUUGAUAGUGAGGUGUUUAUGCAGCAACCCCCGGGAUAUGUUAAACUUGGUUCUGAUGGGCGACCUUUGGUUUGUCGUCUAAAGAAUGCGUUAUAUGGUUUGCGUCAAGCUCCACGAGCUUGGUUUGAGAAGUUGAGAAAUUUUCUUCUAACAGUUGGGUUUGUUGGCUCUAAGUUGGAUGCUUCUCUAUUUGUUCGAGUUCGAUCGGAUUCCACUCUAUAUGUUCUUGUUUAUGUUGAUGACAUUAUCAUUACUGGUAAUUUGGCGUCGUCUAUUGACUGGUUUGUACAGAUGUUGAAUGAUGAAUUUUCGUUAAAGGACAUGGGUGAUUUACACUAUUUUUUAGGAAUUGAGGUUACUAGGUCGUUGUGUGGAAGUCUUCAUCUUUGUCAAAGGAAGUAUAUCCGGGAUAUGUUGAAGCGUAGUGGUUUGGCGAGUGCUAAAGGUGUUCAUACGCCCAUGAUUAGCUCGUCGCACAUUUCUAAGAAUGAUGGUGAUCUUUUAUCUGAUCCAACUGAGUACAGAAGUCUGGCAGGAGCGUUACAAUAUGUGGUUAUUACUAGGCCCGAUAUUGCUUAUGCGGUUAAUCGGGUAUGUCAGUUUAUGCAUCAUCCUACCACAGUUCAUUUGGCAGCUCUUAAAAGAAUAUUACGAUAUUUGUCUGCUACUAUUGAUUUUGGAAUUGUUUUUCGACGGUCUGAUUCUCUCUAUUUAGUUGGGUUUUCUGAUGCAAACUGGGGGUUGGAUUUCGAUGAUCGGCGGUCUACUUCAGGGUACUGUGUUUUUUUUGGUCUAACCCUGUUUCAUGGUCAUCAAAGAAAUAACAGGUGGUAUCGCGUUCUACGGCUGAGGCUGAAUAUAGAAGUCUUGCUGCUAUUACAAGUGAUGUUCUGUGGUUACUUUCGUUGUUACGAGAGUUGCAUAUUGGGUCUGUUUCUCCACCAAAUAUAUGGUGUGAUAGUUCUAGUGCUGUUGCUGUUGCUGCUAGCCCUGUGUUACACUCCAAGUUCAAGUAUGUGGAGUUAGAUUUAUUUUUUGUUCGUGAGAAGGUUGCCGAUGGUUUAGUUUUUGUAGGGGAAGUUCCUGCGUCUGAUCAAGUUGCUGAUGUGUUAACCAAAUCAUUGUCGCUUUCUUAUUUUGCUCGAUUUAGAAAUUUUCUUCGGGUUUUGUCAAUUGAGAAGAUGGAUGCAUGUUAAGGAUAAUAAAACGGUUAAAGAAGUAGUUAGUGAAGGUUGGAAGGUUAGCUACUUUGUUAAAGAAAGGAAGUUUUCUGUGAGUAUAAAAACGAUGGUCUGGCUUUGUAUUGAGGCAAGUAAUAGUUAAGUUCAUUUUUGUAACAGAGUUCAUUUUAAGCAAAUGAUUGUUUGAAGAGAAAUUCUCAAAGUUACCUAGUUUUCUUCAUUCGUCAAAAAAAUACACCUGCAAGCCAAAGCUAAAAGAGGAGAAAAGAAAGGCUGAAUAUGAGAGAAAACAUAUGUUUUUCAAACAAAACCAGAAGAAGAAAAACCUGAAGAGAAAGAAGAGCUACUCUCCAUUAGUGUUGAAGGGACCGUUUUAUGCAAAUCAGUUUCUAAUUACUACCCCAUAGCAGGUAAUGCAGCUUUUAGCAUUGUGUAUAUAGUACUAACUUUGGUUCAAUUCUAUUUCAUGCUUUUUACUAACAGAAACUUUCUUAUUUAAUAUAUUCCUGUUUUCAUAAACUAUUUCAUAAACAGAAUAACAGAUUAGUAACUGUUGUUAUACGCCAAUUCAGCUAGCAGUAGGUGAUCCUUCCAACUACCCCUAAAGUCAAUCACACAGCUCCUAAGCAUAUCUUCUAAAAUCUGAAUAAUUCGCUCAGAUUGUCCAUCAGGCUGAGGAUGGUAUGCAAUAUUGAAAUCUAGUCUUGUACCUAAAGCCUCGUACAACUUCUUCUAGAACCUGGAGGUGAAACAUGGAUCCUUCUUACAAUCUUAGACACGUACAAUUUAGCUAACUUCUGUAGUGAAUAAUCGAUUCUAAUUGCUACACAUAACACUUAUUGAAAAAGUUACAAAUUUAAUUUAAUUUAUUACAUUACAAUUUAUAUAUGUAUCAACAUAAAUAAACAUAUAACAUUAAUCUAUUUCUAAUUUAAUAAAAAUAAUCAAUUUUACAUUAAUCAAAAUUUCACGAUUGGUAGUAAUAAAAAUAAAUAGAAUAAGAAGCAUUCAUAUAUAAUAUAAAUUUUAUUAACAAUUAUUUAAUUAUACAAUAAAGUAUAUAUAAAAUAUUAUAAUAUUCAAUAAUAAAAAGCAGCCAGGUACAUAUUUUAGUUCAAUAAAAACAUCAAUGUUAACGGUAAUUAAAAUAAAUAAAAACAAUUAAUAUUUUUAAUAAAAAAGAUAAAAUAUUUGAUUUAAUAAUUGUUAGUGAUAUUUUAGAAGAUAUAUGCCAUAACUAAAGAGGCAAGAAGAAUGAAUAAGUUUAUAUUUUAUCAUCAAUAAUUUAUUUUAUCAAUGCAAAUAUAAAAAAUCUCAAUAUUUAAUUUAAUAAAAAUGAGCAAUAAACGAAUUUUACGUUAACAAGGACAUUGGCUAUUUGACUUUAAUGGUAAUAAAAAUAAUAUAAAUUUAUGAACAAUAAUUUCUUUUGUCAAUUUAAAUAUAAAAAAUAACAAAGUAGGGUCUUUAUUUGUCAUCCACUAAAUAACAAAUGCAACUAAUGAUGAAGUGCACAUUAAAGUUAAACCAACGAUUUGCCUUUGCUUUUUCUUCAUCCAAAUUGUUUUUUUGCUUUCAAAUCCUCAAAUCUGUGUUUGUGAUCAUUUCCACUAAUUGUUUUCAGUUCACAUUUUCUUGUAUUCUUGUAUUCUGAAAAGCAAACUUUCUUCUUACCUUGAUUUCCACUUCGCAAAAGAAACAGCGCAGAGAAUUGUUCAGUGAAGGUAAGUUUUGAGGAACUACUCCUCAUUAUAUUAUGGGUUCAUGAAACUUCAUCUUCCUUGCUCUAUAUAAGAAGUAGACUGCUAAUGGAGUACUAACAGGCUUGACACUCUGCAUAUUGAACUUGCAAAGAACUUUCUCAAUGUAUCCUUUUUGACUUAGGUACAAUUUACAUGUUUUUCUGUCUUUGCGAAUCUCCAUCCCAAAUAUCUUCUUUGCUGCUCCCAAAUAUUUCAUGUCAAAUUCUUUACUAAGCUGGGCUUUUACCUUUCUUAUCUCUCAUUUAUCUUUGGCUGCUAUCAACAUGUCAUCAGCAUAUGGUGAAAACUCGUGUCGAUGAGGCUAAAAGGCAACUUGAGAACAUCUAUGAGGACGUUGAGGACUGGCUUAGAAAGGCUGAGAAAGAACUGGAAGAAACCCAGAGCUUGUGUUAAACUUUGGCCUACAAUGCAACAUGGAACCAGCAGCAAGCUCACAACAAGACCAGAAACAGCAAAGCAGCUUACAGUGCAGCAUUGGAGCUGAACCGAAUGCAACAGUAGCUUGGUCCAUUUUGUUUCAAUGUAAUUUUGUUUAGUUUACUUUUGACUUAUGCAAGUAAGUUGGUAGGAUUGAUCUUUGAUGUAAUGGCUGAUAUAUCAGUUCAUUUUGUGUGUAAUUUAAGUUAUCAAUUAGUUAUGUAUUAGUGGGGGCAGUUAAGCCAUUAGGUAGCUGUCAAGUUAAACUUGUCACUUAUGUAUUUUUCAAUUUUUAAAUGAAAAUUAGUAUGGUUCUUCAGUUACAUUUUUUGCUGCUGUUCUUUCUUUCUUUUGCUUUGAUUUCAUUGAUUUUGUUUUGUUGUUUUGCUUUUGUUUAAUGCCAAUGUUCCAACAAAUGGUAAUUAGAGCCUGUCAUCUUUGAGGGCCUCUGUUGCUGGUUGUGUUUUUAGUAAAAACAAAGCUUGGAGAAAAGAGAAAUCGAAGUCUUUGAACUUGUUUCAGCAGGAUGAGUUUCACACCACCUCUACCACCUGUGUUCAUUGGAGAGAACUACCACAUUUGGGUAGUUAAGAUGAAAACAUACCUUCAGGCGCAUGAUCUGGGGAAUGUGAUUGAAAAUGACAUCAAACCACCUCCAUUGAGGGCCAAUCCCACCAUUGCUUAGAUGAUGCGACAUAGUGAAGAGUGCUCCAAAAAGAAUAAAGCAAUGUCCUGCUUGCAGAAUAGGGUAUCAGAUGUAAUCUUCACCAGGAUAAUGGCCUGUGACUCACCUAAACAAGCAUGGGAGAAGCUAAAUGAGGAGUUCAUGGGGUCAGACAAAACAAGGCAGCAGUAAGUGAUCAAUCUCAGGAGAGACUUUGAGAAUUUGAAGAUGAAAGAGUUUGAUACCAUUAAGCAGUACUCAGACAGAAUCAUGGCCACUGUCAAUAGCAUAAGGCUAAUUGGAGAGGACUUCAGUAAGGGCAGAGUUGUUGAAAAAGUCAUCACCACUCUCCCUGAAAAAUUCGAGUAAAAAAUUUCAUCACUUGAGGACUCGAGAGAUUUGUCCGCUUUUUCACUGUCUGAACUAAUAAACUCUUUGUAUGCACUUAAGCAAAGGAGAACAAAUAGGCAGGAAGAACAUCCUGAAGGUUUUUUCUAAGCAAAAGCCAAUGAAGGCUUAGGUUCAAAUCAGAAAAUGAAGAAGCCUUGGUCCAACAAAAAGGAGAAACCAAGAAGAGGUGAAGGCAAGAGAGUGUUUCCACCAUGCAUUCACUGCAAGAAGACCACACAUUCAGAAAGAUACUGUUGGUAUAGGCCUGACAUUCAAUGCAGAAGCUGUAAUCAGUUUGGUCAUGUUGAGAAAGUGUGCAAAAGUAAAGGAAAGGAAGCUGCUCAGCAACAAGCUCGAGCUGUUGAGGGCCUACAAGCUUAGGAGGAGCAUGUUUUUACAACCUCUUGUUUUGCUAGCACAAACAAAGUCAGAAGUGAUUGGUUAGUGGACAGUAGCUACUUACACCACAUGGCAGCUGAUGAGAAGCUGUUUAAAGACCUUGGCAAAACUUUUGCUUCAAAAAUUAGGAUUGGAGAUGGGAACCUAAUCGAAGCCAAAGGAAAAGGCAAUGUGAUGAUCAGCACUUGUUCAGGUAACAAAGUCUCUGAUGUGCUUUUUGUGCCUAACAUAGACCAGAACCUGCUUAGUGUUGGUCAGUUAGUGGAAAAAGGAUACACUUUGGUUUUUAGAAAUGGUUCUUACAUUGUUGAAGACUCACUUGGUCAUGAGUUAGUUACAGUAGCUAUGAUUGAUAGAUGCUUCAUGCUUGAUGUGAGUCAAAUUGAGAGAAAGGCUUACACCAGUCUUGCUGAUAGCACUGGUCUUUGGCAUAGGAGACUAGGACAUGCCAACUUCAGAUCACUUGAUCGGUUGCACAGGCUGAACUUGGUUGAUGACAUGUCUAAGGUUGAAGUCAGUGAUACUGUUUGUGAAGUUUGUCAGCUUGGUAAGCAAGCUAGAUUGCCUUUUCCAUCAAACAAUGCAUGGAGAGCUCGAGAGAAGCUUGAAAUGGUACAUUCUAAUGUUUGUGGACCAAUGAAGACCCCUUCACUGAAUGGAAGUAAGUACUUUGUGCUGUUUAUAGAUGAUCUAACCAGAUUUUGUUGGGUUUACUUCUUUAAACAGAAGUCAGAAGUGUUUGAAGCUUUUGGAAAAUUCAAAGCUUUAGUUGAGAAUCAAGCAGGCUACAGGAUUAAGGCUUUGAGGACAAAUAAUGGCACUGAAUACUUGUCUGAAAGAUUUUAGAAGCUAUAUGAGUAGGUUGGGAUCCAUCAUCAGUUAAAUACAAUGUAUACUCCUCAAAAAAAUGGGGUAUGCGAGAGGAAGAACAGGACAGUGAUGAACAUGGCCAGGUGUUUGCUAUUUCAAAGUAAACUUCCAAGUACAUUUUGGGCUGAGGGUGUCAAUACCUCAGUGUAUUUGCUCAACAAGUUGCCAACUCGAGCUGUCAAGGACAAGACAUCUUUUGAAGCAUAGCAUAGACUCAAGCUAGUGGUAUCACACUUAAAAGUGUUUGGUUGUGUCUGUUAUGCCCACAUUCUAGUAGAAAAGAGGACUAAGCUCAAAAAUAGGGCUGUUCCAGGGAUCUUUGUUGGCUAUAGCAGUACUAAGAAGGGCUAUAGGGUGUUUGAUCCCUCAACAAAAAAAAAUUUGGUAAGCAGAGAUGUAAGAUUUGAUGAAGAAAAGGUUUGGAGCUGGAAUGAUGUUGAAACAGGCUUAAGUGAAGAGGAUCAGCUAGACAUUGUUGUUGAACCUGCAGAAGAAUAAUCAAAUGAUGAGGCUGUUGAUGAUACUCCUAUGAGAGGCACCAGAACUAUUGAUGACAUCUACCAAAGAAGCAAUAUGGUAAUAGUUGAACCAUCUGACUUUGAGGAAGCUAUCAAGGACAAGCCCUGGACGAAAGCCAUGGAAGUAGAAUUGGAGAUGAUUCACAAAAAAUAACACUUGGGAAUUGGUGAGCAAACCUGAUCACAAGAAGGUCAUUAGUGUCAAAUGGGUGUUUAGAGACAAGUGCAAUGCUGAUGGCUCAUUGAACAAGCACAAAGCAAGACUUGUGGUGAAAGGCUAUAGUCAGCAAUAUGGGAUCGAUUUCAUGGAGACAUUUGCUCUAGUAGCAAGGCUGGACAGAAUCAAACUUUUGUUUGCUUUGGCUGCUCAAAAACAAUGGAAGAUUCACCAAUUGGAUGUCAAGUCAGCAUUUCUGAAUGACUUUCUCAAGGAGGAAAUUUUCAUUGAGCAACUUGAUGGAUUUAAAAUUGUAGGAGAAGAAGAUAAGGUUUACAGACUAAGAAAGGCUCUUUAUGGCUUGAAGCAGGCACCAAGGGCCUGGUAUGACAAGGUUGACACUUACCUGUCUAGGCUUGGGUUCGAGAAAAGUGUUAGUGAAGCUACACUUUAUGUGAAGAGGUCAAAAGGUAAGACUUUGCUGAUUGUUUCUCUUUAUGUGGAUGAUUUACUUGUGACUGGAAGUAAAGAUGAAUUGAUUGUUAAAUUUAAAGCUCAAAUGCAAAAGGUGUUUGAAAUGACUGUCUUGGGGAUCAUGACUUACUUCCUUGGUAUGGAAGUGCAUCAGUUUGAUAAAGGCAUAUUCAUCAGCCAACAUGCUUUUGCCUUGAAAAUUCUCAAUAAAUUCUGUAUGCAGAACUGCAAAACAGUCAGCACACCUGUGGCUCAAGGGGAGAAGCUGACCAGUAGUGGAGAUCAGGAAAGGGUUGAUGAGAAGUAAUAUCGAAGUCUGGUAGGCUGUCUGCUCUAUUUAACAGCAACCAGACCUGAUAUCAUGUUUGGUGUUAGUCUUUUAUCAAGGUUUAUGCAUUGCUGUGAUGUGGUUCAUUUCAAAGCAGCAAAAAGGAUCCUUAGAUAUGUUAAAGGAACCUUAGAUUAUGGAGUUAAGUUUGAGAAAGCAAGGGAGCUCAAGCUAGCAGGGUAUUCAGAUAGUGAUUGGGCUGGUUCUGUUGAUGGCAUGAAGAGUACCUGUGGUUACUUUUUUACACUUGGAUCAAGUGUAUUUUGCUAGAGUUCAAAGAAGCAACAAACUGUUACUCAGUCCAUAGCUAAAGCAGAGUACAUUUCAACUACAGCAGCUGUUAAUCAAGCCAUUUGGCUUAGGAAGCUCCUACAUGAUCUCAAUGAAGAUCAAGCUGAGCCAACUGAGAUCAGGGUAGACAAUCAAUUUUUUGUUACCAUAGCUAAGAAUCCGGUCUUUCAUGGUAAGACCAAACACUUUAAGAUCAAAUUUUAUUUUGUUCGAGAGGCUGAACAAUCGAAGGAAGUCAGCCUUGUUCAUUGUAGCUCAAAAGGUCAAUUGGCUGAUUUACUGACCAAGCCAUUGGGAGCUACUAGAUUUGAAAUUUUGAGAAGGGAAAUUGGUGUUUGUUGCAUACAGUCCAACGAGGAGUGUUAAACUUUGGCCUGCAAUGCAACAUGGAACUAACAACAAGCUCACAACAAGACCAGCAACAACAAAGCAGUUUGAAGUGCAGCAUUGGAGCUGAACCGAAUGCAACAAUAGCUUGGUCCAUUUUGUUUCAAUGUAAUUUUGUUAGUUUACUUGUGACUUAUGCAAGUAAGUUGGUAGGAUUGAUCUUUGAUGUAAUGGCUGAUAUGUUAGCUCAUUUUGUGUGUAAUUUAAGUUAUUAAUUAGUCAUGUAUUAGUGGGGGCAGUUAAGCUAGUAGGUAACUGUACUGUCAAGUUAAACUUGUAACUUAUGUAUUUUUCAAUUUUUGAAUGAAAAUUAGUGUGGUUCUUCAGUUACAUUUUUUGCUGCUGUUCUUUCUUUCUUUUGCUUCUAUUUCAUUACUUUUGUUUUGCUGUUUUGCUUUUGUUUAAUGCCAACGUUCCAACAACUUGAAACAUGAAAUAGAUCGCGUCAAGUGUUUCAAAUGGUGAAACUGGCAAAGAACACUUCUAUUAUCUCUAAACUUUUAGAUACUUCUAACUUUGCACAGGUGAGCUAUCAUUCUUCUCUUCAAGGAAUAAAGUUUAUCACACCCACGGAUUGCGUGGGCCCUGCAUCUUCAAAAUCAGCUUUAAUCGGGAUCAUGGAGGCUAUAAAUGAUAACGGUGUCAACAUGAUUGGACUGUACGAAAUGCUAGGAGUCGGGAAAACAACUUUAGCCAAAGAAGUUGGGAAGCAUGCUCGAGAACAAAAGCUCUAUGAUAAAAUUGUGAUGUUUACUGUGUCCCAAAAUCCAAACAUCAACAAAAUUCAAGAUAAAGUUGCAGAUUUUUUUGGUUUAAAAUUUGAAACAAGUAGCCAAGAAGGAAAAGCAGAAGCGCUUUUCAGGAGCAUGCAAGGCGUGAACAAAAUCCUCGUAAUUGUCGACGACCUCUGGGAAGAAUUCAAAUUGGAGAGUAUCAGAAUUCCAUUCGGUGAUGGACACAAGGGUUGUAAAAUUCUUCUGACUACAUGUCAUCAACAAGUCUGCAUUUAAAUAAACUGUCAGAAGGUGAUUCAACUUGGCAUCUUAUCCGAAGACGAAGCAUGGGUUUUGUUUCGAGAAAGAUCUGGUUUAGAUGAUUAUUGUUCCUCCUUGAAUGAUGUAGCCAAAGAGGUUGAUGGUGAAUGUAAGGGAUUGCCUCCUGUACUUGAUACCGUGGCAAGAGCUUUAAAAGAUGAGAGUUUAGAUGCGUGGAGAGCCUUAAAGCAGAGAUUCAAGGACUCAAGGCAUUUGGUUAAUGAAGAAGUUCUCGGAGAUGUCUUCAAGGGUCUUAAGCUUAGCUACGCUUAUUUGAAGGAAGGCAAUAACCAAAUAACGGAAAAUGACAUCCAAAGUGUUUCUUACUGUGUUCCCUUUUUCCUGAAUAUGAAGAAAUCCGUAUUGACAUCCAAAUUGGAGUAGGAUUGUUCCCUAAUGUUUACUCGAUUGAAGAUAAAAGUAAAGAAAUUGGUAUGGCACUAAAAAUACUCCAAAAAUCUAGCUUAUUAUUGGAAACUUAUGACGCAAAAACGAUAAGAAUGCAUGGUGUGGUUCGAGAUUUUGCUCAUCGGCUAACAUCAACAGGAGAAAAUAGGUUUAUGGUAAAAGAUGAGGUGAAAGAAUGGCCUCAUUUGGAUGAAAGUUUUGGAUGUUAUACUGCAAUCGCUUUAUGGAAUUGUAGUAGUAACAUAAAAAAUAUUCCCGAUAACUUUGUUUUUAGCAGGGGAGUGGGAUGAUUUACUAGUGGUUUCCGAAACAUUUUUUGGAGAAAUGAAAGCACUCCAAGUUCUACUACUCAGAAAUGUCAGUUUCUCACCGACGGGAUUCCAUUCCUUACCAAAUCUUAAAACUUUGUGUUGUAUUAAUUGCGAGCUGAAAAACUUCUCAUCAUCAAUGACAAAUAUGAGAAGCCUUGAGAUCCUUGCAUUGUUUGGCACUAAGAUUGAUGAGAUAAGUAAAGAAUUAGUGAAAUUGUCUACACUGAAAUUAUUAUAUGUUGAAGUUGAAAAGGAAGAAAAAAUCAAUUUCCCCCCAAUUUCCUAUCAAGGUAAUAGUGCAUCAAAUUUAAUUUUCUUUUUUAUCAUAUUCGUAUUUUGUUUGACACCAUUUAUUUUCCUAUCAUUUUCUUUCAUAGGUAAUUUUUAUUUUGGAAUACUAGUUUUAUCACAUGUUCCUUCACCUGGAGAUAUCACAAUAUAUAGUUCAAUAGUCAACGUAAUAAAUAUUAAAAAAACAACUUAAUAAAUUAAUUAAGGCAUAAUGAAAAUUUAGUCGUUAACGUUUACAUCAUUUAUUAAUUUAACCCUUAUUUUUUUAGCUAAAUUUGGUUGUGCACCUUUUAAAAAUAGUCGAAUUUAAACAUUAACCUUUUAAAAAAUUAUUGAAUUUUUUUAUAACGGAAAUACUAACUAAAAUGUAAAGUUUCUAUACAUGAAAGCCUGCAUGGUAAUCCAUGUUUACUUAUGCUAUUCAAAAAAAAAAAGUAUGCAUUUGCUAUAGUUUUUGAAUUUUUGUAUAAAUUUUAAAUUAUUUCUUUAGUUGACAUAUAAGAUAUAUAAUGUAAUGUUUGCAUGAAAAAUACAUGUAAUAACAUGUGGAUUGUCAUAUCAAUAAAUUUUUUAUUAAUAAUAUUAAAUAAAUAUAAAAUAUUCAAUAAAAAAUUAAUAAAAAUUAAACCUUCAAUUCAAUGUAACUAUAAAAAUUUAAUAUACAAAUUUAAUCAAAGUUUAAUUUAAAUAUAAAAAAUUGUCAAUAUUUAAUUUAAUAAAAGAAAUCAAUUAAUGAAUUUCAGUUUAAUAAGAACUUAAUAAUCUUGUUUAAAUGAAACUUUUCAUUUUUCAAUUUCAAUCAUUGCACCCAAAUUUUUAUUAUAAGAAAAGACAUUUAUAUUUUUUUUCCCAAACUUCUUUAUUUUUUUUUCAUUUAGAGAUAAAUUAUAUGAUAUUUGCACCCAAUAUUUAACUUUUUUUCGAAGGUAUCUGAUUUAAUCAUUCCACAUAAAAAAUAAAAAUGUUUUCUUUUAAAUACAAAAUAAUAUACUUACAUGAGUUUUUUUUUCUAAACCUCGUAAUUUGUGUUACAUAUAUAACUUGACAAUUAAUGUUGCUUCUUUUUAUGAAUAUAAUAAGUUGACUUCAUUGCAAGAAGUAGAUGUGAUCAGCAAAAGCAAUAUCAACUUAUUGAAGCCAAAUUCAUUGUCUCGUUUAACUGCACCAUCACUGGCGCUUUCUACUAAUCAAUUUUCUCAAGAAUAUUGGGUGUUCCCUAAACUACAAAGGUACAAUAUAGCUGUAAGUGACAAUUUUAACUAUCGGAGGUUGUUUAGAACAUUGACAAUUGGAAACUUCUCAUCCUCAUUGACUGCAUUUAACACUUUAUUUUGCAAUAUGGAGAAAAAGUUGAACUUGAACAAUGUUAGUGGACAAAAGAACAUUGUGUCAAGUAAAAUGGGAGUAAAUGAGUUGACUUCUCUGCAGCUUAAUUAUUGUAAGGAUAUGGAAUUCUUGAUUGAUAUGACAAGAGAUCAGGAGUCAAUUGUUGCAUUCUUUAAUUUGGUGGAAUUAAAUAUAGAAAGAAUGGUUUCUUUGAAAGGGCUGUGCUAUGGUCUUCCUCCGACUAGGUUCUUGCAAAAUCUUAAGCAAGUAAGCAUCAAACAUUGUGAGGAGUUACAAGAGAUACUUCAAAUGGAUAAGCUUUCUGAAAAGGUGAAAUGUCAGACACCAUUGUGCUCAAAUUUAACAAUAUUGGAACUAUAUUGAUCACUGCCAAAUAAAUUGGAAAGCGUAUGGAAAUUAGAGCCAUCACAUCAUGCAAUUGCAAGCCUCACAAGACUAAAGGUUUUAAGAAUUGUGCAUUGCAAUAAACCGAAAACAAUCUUCUCACCUUGCUUGGCUCUAAGUAUGCUGCAUCUACAAGAACUCAAUAUAAGGCACUGCGAUGGAUUAGAGCAAGUCAUUGACUUCGGCAAAGAAGAAGAGAUUAUUGAGGUAGGAAUACCGAUUCUCUCCAAUUUUGUAAAUCUUCUUUAUUGUUUUAACUUUUUGAUAGCAUUCUUUUAUGGAUGAGACAAAUUGCAAGAAAACCAAAAACCAAUUUGAAGUGAAGUGCUUUGUUCAGUAUUUAUUGAGUUUAGAUUAGUUUUGAUUUUUAUAUUAUUUAUGUGUAUCCAAUUUGUUGAAAGUGUAGUGAGCACUAAAGAAAUUAACUUUUAUUACUCAAAACAAAUACACCAAUGCAAAAUAAAACUAUAUUUUCCUCUCAAUUAGUACCUACAACUAAUUAUACACUCACAAUUCACUCUUUGCUUAUUUCCACUUCCAUGCACACAAAGUCACACACCUUUGUUUUGUUUCAUACUCUUUCCUUUUCUUCUCAUCCACACACUCGCUUAUACAUAUCACAAAUACAUGAAACCUGUUUAUAGGCUUAUAAACCACAUCCUGAAUUGUUGUGUCUCUUAUUUUUAUUUAGAUUUUAUUUAUUUAUGGAAAAGCCUUCAAUUUAAUUACAUGUCACUUUUCUUCUACCCUUAAAUUUCUAACUUAUAAAGUUAGUUUCAUAUUGUUGAAAAAUAUGAAACUAACAUUUUUUGUGCAAGAGUAGCACCAAAUUGAUAUGAAAAUGAUUUUCAUAUCUAUUAUAUUGAUAAUUUAUUAAAUGACUUUAAUGGGUUAUGAUUGAGUUCAUGGUUGAUAUCUAGCCUAUUAUAGAAUAUCAUAUCACUAAGGAGAUUAGUUUUUAGAUAUUAGAUUGAUUCAAAAUUAACCAAGACAAUCACUUGGAUUGUAAAGUUUAAUGAUGUUCAUGUUGGUUCCACUCAAUUAUACACCAUAGUAGAACAUGUCCUGAAUAAGUUAUGUUAUUACCAAAAGUUGUAUAAAUGUAGAAUAUCCAGAAAAUAGAAAAUACAGGAGUUACCAGGUUCGGAAGAUAGGGAAUAAUGAGCUUCUUUUUUAUACAUGUUCUUUGACUUCAACAUAAGUAAGUGUGGCUUGCAAAUAAUGCACCAGCCAAGUGUUAAAAUUGCUUGUUGCUUUUAAUGUAAUUCACCACAAGGAUUGUUCACAGUUUGGUUAAAAUCGAUUUAACCGAUCGAAUCAAUCUAAUUCGGUUAAUUGGUCGUUGGCCGAAUUUAGUUCGGUUGAAGGUUGGUUAAUGAUUUUUUGAAAUUUCGGUUAUCGGUUAGUUCAACUCGAAAUCGAGUAAUUGAUUGGAUUAACCGAUAUAUAUUAUAUAUAAUAUAUGUAGUGUUUGGUUGUUAGCUUUCAAGAUUUAUCUAGUGUUUUUAAUAUCUUAUUUGAAGUUUUCACCUCCAUUUAAAGUAUAUUAACAGGGUAUUUUUUAUAUCUUUUAUACAUAUUUGAACCAAAAGACAAAAACAUAUAUGAUAAAGAUUGAGACGGAUGAAAGCGUAAGGGAAUCAUAAAGUUUGUCAAAGUCGUAAAUUUGACUUAGGGCUGUAGACAUUCGGAAAGAAACUUGGAUUUUGACACAAACCUGAAACGAAAUUGAAUCCAAGUAAAAAAAAUUAAAAUAAAUAACUAAAAUAAAAUAAUAAAUCAAAUAUUAGAAUAACAAGAAUGCGAAUAAAGAAGAUAAAUGGAAAGAUAGAACGUGGUGUGUAUAAGUCCUAAGUAGCCUAGGAAACAUAAAGAAUCCACAACCCCCUUUAAACGGCUCUAAUUUUCCCUCUAAGAUAGAAAUCUUGACAAGAAAAAGUUUGCAAGUGAUCCCCACAAGCUAAAAACAAUGUUAAAACUCUUCUGAAAUAAACUCAAGAGAGAAAUCCUUAAAAAGAAAAAACCCAGAGAGAAUUUAUUAACUCAAAGAGAAAUAGAAUAAUAAUGAAUUAAUGUAUCAAUUAUGUACAAUGCAAAGGCCUAUACAUAGGCUAGCUAAAUAAAUCUAAAUAAAACUCUUAAGUAUACUAGAACUCUAAUUUAAUCUAAACAAUAAGUAAUUUUAAACUAAACUUUCUUAUUAACAUAGAACUCCUAAAUAACUUAAAAUACUUAAUAAUUAUAAAAAAUUUGGAAUAAAUUAAUAAUAAAAUAAUAAGAGCUGAUAAAUAAAAUAUUGGGCUCAUAUAUAAUAAAAAUUAAGCCUAAAACUCGAACCCAAUAUGAAACGUCUAGGCUUGUGAGAUCAAUUGGGGUUCUUGAAGUGAAAUGCCUAAGCUUUUUAGCAUUUUCCACAUGGGAGAGUGUAGGCCCACAAAUAGAAUUAGUCCCUUCUAAUUCAUCAUUAUUCUAGAAUUCAUUGUCUUAAAACUUCAACUCUUCUUCUCGAAUUAUUUUCGUGAUAAAGUAUUGAACAAAUAAGUUGAGUUUUGACUUUAUCUACUUGGAUUUAAAUCUCGUAAUUGGGCAUUGAGGGAAACUAAGCACAUCUAUAUUAUGGCAUUUGAAUUGGGCUAAGUUUCUCAUAUCGUUCCCCUUUCCACAAAAGGAUUCGUCCUUGAAGCUACAAUAUCAAAAGGAGAAAGGUCAGUGACAUUAAAAGUGGCACUAACAUCAUACUCACCAAGAAGGUCGAUUUGAUAUGUAUUAUCAUUAAUGUCCUUGAAUACUUGAAAAGGUCCAUCAACAUAUGGGUCCAAUUUUGUUUUGCGUUUAGUUGGAAAUUGCUCUUUUCUCAUGUGGAUCCAAACCCAGUCACCGGGUUCAAAGAUAAUUUGCUUGCGCCCCUUGUUAGCUUUGUUGGCAUUUGCUUCAUUUGUUUUGGCGAUUCAUUGUCUUGCUUUCGCAUGCAUGGAUUUCACCAAUUUAGCUUUCUUCUCACCAUCUAAACUAGAAAUGUUUUCUAUAGGAAAUGGUACAAAAUCAAGUACAUUCAGUGGAUUAAAACUAUAAACAAGUUCAAAUGGGGAAUAGGCAAUUGUAGAGUGAAUAGAUCAGUUAUAUGCAAACUCAACAAAUGGAAAACAUUCUUCCCAAUUUUUAAGGUUCUUACCCAUAGCAGCUCGUAGUAAAGCACCUAAAACUUGAUUGACUACCUUUGUUUGUCCAUAGUUUUGGGGUUGACAUGUAGUAGAAUAUAAUAAUUUAGUACCAAGCUUACCCCCACAAUACUUUUCAAAAGUGGCUUAGGAACUUUAUGUCUCUUUCAGAUACAAUGGUACAAGGUAUUCCAUGUAGGCACACCACCUCCCAAAAGAAUAAGUUAGCUACAUGUGGAGCGUCAUCCGUUUUGUGACAAGGAAUAUAGUGAGCCAUCUUUGAAAACUUGUCAACAACAACAAAGAUACUUUCUCGACCCUUUUUAGUUCGUAUCAAACCAAGAAUGAAAUCCAUAAAUAAGUCUACCCAUGGAAAAAAAAGAAUCGGCAAAGGAGUAUAAAGUCCAUGAGGCAUUACCUUAGAUUUUGCUUGUUUACAAGUAAUACAAUUAGAACAUACCUUUUCAACGUCCUUUUUCGUGUGCAGCCAAUAAAAAUGUUCAUGUAAAAUAUCUAGUGUCUUGACGACACCAAAGUGUCCCAUUAGGCCUCCACUAUGUGCCUCACAAAUUAAUAAUGCUCUCAUGGAACAUUGUAGAACACAUACCCUGUUUAGGUGAAAAAGAAACCAAUCUACAAGAUAAAACUUGUUAAAGGCACCAUUCCAAUAAUUAGAAAAAAAAACAUUUGCAAAAUCAAUAUCAUUUAAGUAUAAAUCUUUUAUAUGUUCAAACCCUAAGACUUUAGCAUUUAAUGUAGUUAUCAAAUAAUAUCUACGACAUAAGGCAUCAUCAACUAUAUUUUCUCUACUUGUUUUAUACUUAAUUGUAAAUGGAAAUGUCUCUAUGAAUUCUACCCAUCGAGCGUGUCUUUUGCUCAACUUACCUUGUCCCUUUAACCAUUUUAGGUAUUUAUGAUCUGUAUGGAUAACGAACUCAUUUGGCAGUAAGUAAUGUUGCCAAACUUGUAGAGCUCAAACUAAUGUUAGCAACUCUUUAUCAUAAGUUGAGUAGUUUAAUUGCUCCCCAAUCAGUUUUUCACUGAAAUAUGCAAUUGGCCUUUUUCCUUGCAUCAACACUGCACCAAUUCCAAUACCUGAAUCAUCACAUUCAAGUUCAAAAAUAUUAGAAAAAUCAGGUAAUUUAAGAACCAGAGUAGAACAUAACUUCUUUCAAGUUUGGAAAGCCUUUUCCUGCGCUUUUCCCCAUUUAAAACCCACAGACUUUUUAAUAAUCUCAGUUAAUGGAGCAGCAAUUGUGGAGAAAUCCUUCACAAAACGUCUAUAAAAACUUGCUAAACCAUGGAAAGAUCUCACAUCGAUAAUUGAUUUAGGAGUGGGCCACUCCCUAAUUGCCUUUACUUUGUCCUCACCUACAUGAAUACCUUGAACACUUACUAUAAAACCUAAAAAGAUUAGUUUAUCACAAUAAAAAGUGCAUUUAUUAAAGUUGGUAAAUAAAUUUUCAGUUCGUAGAAUAUCCAAAAUAGAUUUAACAUGAAAAACAUGAUCAUCUAAAGAAAAGAAGUUGAGUAAAUUAGAAUAUCAUCAAAAUAUAUUACCACAAAUUUACCCAAAUAAGGUUUCAAAACAUGGUUCAUCAAGCGCAUGAAAGUACUAGGUGCAUUAGUCAAACCGAAAGGCAUGACAAGCCAUUCAUAUAAACCAAACUUAUUUUUAAAUGUUGUUUUUCAUUCAUCCCCCUCUUUCAUUCGAAUUUGAUGGUAGCCACUUUUUAAAUCAAUUUUUGUAAAGAUACAAGCACCAUAAGUUUCACCAAACAUAUCAUCAAGCUUUGGAAUACGAUGUCUAUACUUAAUAGUAAUUUGGUUAAUUGGUUGACAAGCACCAUAAAGAAAUCGAUUACCUUGAAUAAGGUGGUGAAGUCUUUGUUUAAUAUACCUAUAAUAGUGAGGUGGGAUAAAAUGUUUUUGCAUGAUUUGUGUCAACUGUUCCCACGAAUCAACUUCUCGUUCAUGAUUCCUUUAAGAGUUCAACACAAGUUGAGUGGUGGAAUGUGAUCUCCAUUUUAUCCUCCCAAUCACAAUAUGCAUCUGGAUCAUACUUUCCUUGGAAUGGUGGAAUGUUGAACUUUGGUUUAGCGAUAGAAGAUUGGCCUCGAUUAGAACGAAUACCAGUACUAGAAUGAAUACAAAGUUGUUUAUUGUCCCUAUCAUCGUCACUAUCACGAGCACAAGAUUGUCAAUUUGAAGAAGUCUCCAAAUGAGCAACAACUUGAAUUAGCAGUUGAAUUUGAUUGGAAAGCUGAUUAAUGUUCUCUUGUAGUUUUGUUCGACACUUAGUCAAAUUGGCCUCAAAUGUAUCACGUACCUCGUUCAAUUGUUGAUGUUGAAAUGUUACUAUCCUCAUAAUUUUCUCUAAUGUAACAUCUCGUUCUUUGUCAUCAGAUGGUAUCUCAUCAUGGUUUUUACGGGUAUGAGUGCCAUGAGUCAUAGUGAAAGCCUAGAAAAGCACAACACUUCAAAAGAAAAAAUUAAGCAAACCUCACUUAUAUGCACUCCAAAAAAAAUUCUCAAUGACGUUAGAAUUAAUCUUGUGAGUCUUUUAAAAAGUGUUUAUAUCAAUCAAUCAGAAUGUAUUAGAAUCAAACUAUCAAAGCAAAGCUAAUAGCACUAUGAGUCCAAAAUUGGCUUAGAUAUCAAAGAAUUAUGUUGCACGGUGGAAAGAAUAUGCAACAUGCUUUAACUUACUUACACAAGAAACAAGAAAGUGUAAGAAUGCAUAAAGGAACAAAUAAAAAUAAAAACAAAUGAAAACUUAAAGCUAAGAGUCAAUGAAAAUUUCUAAAACUCGAAAACCUAAAAAAUUGCGAAGCAACUUGACAAACUUCGUUUGGGGUGUUCAUAUUUCCAAAAACCACAAAAUUUAAAAUAGAGCCUCCUCAAAUAAAGUAGAUAUGAUCUGAAAAGUUUUAGCACAAAAUUCAACCCACAAAAUAUUUUUUUAUUUUUUAUAUUUUUUGAUCACUUUUUUGUGGGAAAUGUUUUUUUGUAUACUCUAAAAUAGUGCCAAGAAAUAGUAUGUAAACUUUUAAAUUGCUUGAAAAUCGUUUAUCCACUGAAAAAUACUUUUUUCCAAAAACAGUCGGGGUAAAAAAAUUAUUUUGAGGUUGUUCCUAGAAAUCAGUUUAUAUAUAUAAAAAAAAAGAACACCUAAAAUGCCCAAAUUUGAUACCAAAUGAUAAAGAAUGAAAUGGAUGAACGCAGAAGUAGAUCGUAAAGUUUGUCAAAGUCGCGAAUUUGACUUAGGGCUCUAGACGUUCGGAAAGAAACUUGGAUUUUAACACAAACUUGAAAUGAAAUUGAAUCCAAGUCAAAUAAAAAAAUUAAAAUAAAUAACUAAAAUAAAAUAAUAAAUCAAAGUUUAGAAUAAUAAGGUGGCGAAUAAAGAAUAUAAAUGGAAAGAUAGAACGUGGCAUGUAGAAGUCAUAAGAAGCUUUGAAAAUACGAAGAAUCCACAACCCCCUUCAAGCGGCUCUAAUUUCCCCUCCAAGAUAGAAAUAUUGGCAAGAAAAAGUUUGCAAAUAAUCCCUACAGUCUAAAAAGAUUGUUAAAAUUUUUUUAAAAGAAACUCAAGAGAAAUUCUUGAAAAGAAAAAACCCAGAGAUAAUUUAUUAACUCAAAGAGAAAUAGAAUAGUAAUGAAUUGUAUCAAUUGUGUACAAUGCAAAGGCCUAUAUAUAGGCUAGCUAAAAAAAUCUAAAUAAAACUCUUAAGUAUACUAGAACUCUAAUUUAACCUAAACAAGUAGUUUUAAACUAAACUUUCUUGUUAACAUAAAAUUCCUAAAGAACUUAAAAUACUUGAUUAAAAUAAUAAAAUAAUAAGAGCUGAUAAAUAAAAUAUUAGACUCAUAUAUAAUAAUAAUUAAGCCUAAAACUCGAACCCAAUAUGAAACGUCUAGACUUGUGAGACCAAUUGAGGUUCCUGAAGUGAAAUGGUUAAGCUUGUUAGCAUUUUCCACAUGGGCUUAUCAUCAUAGAUUAAGAGUUUAGGCCCACGGACAGAAUUAGUUAAUUCUAAUUCAUCAUUACUCCAGAAUCCAUCGUCUUGAAACUUCAACUCUUUUUUUUGAAUUAUUUUCGUAAUAAAGUCUUGAACAAAUAAGUUGAGUUUUAAUUUUAUCUUUUUGGAUUUGGAUCUCGUAAUUGGACAUUGAGAGAAACUAAGCUCAUCUCUAUUAUGUCCUUUGAAUUGGGCUGAGUUGCUCGUAUCAAUAUAAAUUUCGGUAAUUCAGUUAAUGUAUUUGAAAAAAAUUCGAUUCAAUUAACGUUAAAAUUUUUUACAUUUUGAAUAAUUCGAUUUGGUUAAUCAUUUUACCAUUCCUAUUCACCACUAUUCUAUGGCACAUGCAUAUGCAAAAUAUAGUUUGCUCAUUACAUGCAAAUGCAAAGAUUGAUCGAUGAACAACGUGCCAUAAUUUAAAACAAAUUUAAAAAUCUUUAACAGAUUUUAAUAAUGUAUUUUUAAAAAUAAUUAUUUAAAAUGUUAAAUAAAUUUAUAAUUUAUAACUAAAAUAUUUUAAUUUUUUUUGUCUGAUCAGGAUUAAACAACUAUAAUUUUUAUUCUUAAUUAUAAAUUUCUUCCAAAAAUAAUUAUAAAAAUUAAAAUUAGUGUUAAAGUGUCGUUAGUUUUUUAGCAAUAGAUUUAAAAUAUUUUAAAACAAAAACUAAGAAUUAAAAAUAAUUUGAAUAAAAUUGAUGGGACAUUCCAUUUCCCACAUUCAAGUCUUUACAUAUGUUUCAACCCACGUAAGUAUUUCCAUAAAAUAUUUUAUUCCUUAGCAAUUUAAGAAAAAAAACCCAAUGUUGUAACCAAAACCAAAAUAUUCAUAGUUUAGUAACUAAUAGUUAAUAAUGUAUGGUAAAAUAAAUUAAUUACAAAAAUAAUAUGGAAAAUAAAUUAAUUACAAAAAUAAGACAUUUGCUAUGAUGUUUUGCUGGUCGUCUGACAUAUUGAAAACACCAUACUAAAAUGUGAUAACAAAAAAUAUUCAAAGACUUGAUAUGUAAAUUACUCAUUUUGAUUGGCUGUUGAAAAUAAAAUCUAAAGAUGUUGUGUGAUAGUGUAGUGGCACAAAAUCUUAAAUAGAGUUAAUUUCUUUAUAAACUCUCAUUGUUUAUUAUUUUGUUUUUAUCUCCCUUCAACACCAAAAUUACAAAGUUUUCCUACCUAUUAAUCGAGUUCAAAUUAUGUCUAGCAUAACCGUUAACACUGUUGAUAGUAAUUUUCUUUGGCUCAUAUAUAUAUAUAUAAUAAUAAAAUUUUUUUAAAAUUUUUAUAAUUAUAAUUUUAUACGCUAUCGUAAAUUAAAUUGAUAAUAAGAAUAAUUAAAAUGCCAUCUGUAAUGGCAGACGGCAAAGAAAAAGGCUAAAAGAAAUAAAAAAAAGGAUUUCUUUCUGCCUUUGUGGAACCUACCACUGACUUCAUAAUUUGCUUGUUCUUAUCUUCACUUUCUUUUUCUUCACUGCUUUUAAUUUAUUUCGAUAUCCAAGGUCUAUCACAAAUUUUGAAGCAUCCAGUCAAGGUAAUUUUCUUUCAUUUGCUUAAUUCAUCACAUGCUUUUCUUUGCUUUUGAUUAUCUGCUACUGUUAUAGCAGCUAGCUUUGUAAGAUUGUCAAGGAACUCAACUUCACUGCUUCCUUUUCAGUUCUAAUCUCUCAACACUUUUCAGCCACUAAGUCAGGUAAUAAGAUCAGAAGCAAUGAUUUCCUCUACUAAUUAUCAACAGUUUUAGAUUUUAAGAGUGGAUGACCAGCAGACAUAAUCUACUAUAGAUAGAAAUUAAUACAAAACAGCUACCCAGAAGCAAUAUAAUGUUGAAAUCUCAAACUGUCAACAUUUUAACUCUUAAUAUUCUGUAAUGAACUCUUGCACACUUGAAUCUGGUGACCAGAAUUUCAUCAUGUUUCUGUCUGCCACCCAUCCAUGGCUCCAUCUAAUAAACGCCAUUGCUUGAAACUUGCAUUCAUGUUUUCUUUUUCAUGCUUACACUGACAUAUCAAUACUUCAGAAAAUAUCCAAUUCAUUCACAGAUUUUCAUUCUCUGCUACUGUUAUAUAUGAUUGUAUUGCAGGGACAUAGCAAUGGAGUACGUAGAGCCUGUUGCCGGCAUUGCAAAUUGUCUCGGAACUCCUGUUUGUAAAUAUUUGCAAUAUCACAGAAAGCUGAACGAUUAUGUGAGAAACUUCAAGAGGAUCAGAGAUGAAUUGAAUUGCAAAAUGGAAGAUAUAGAGCUGCAAUUGAAAGCAGAGCUUCUUCGUCCUCUGGGGAAGAUACCGAAGAAGGGAGUUGAAAAUUGGUUGAAAGCUGUGAAAGAGAUGAUUAGGGAAGCACAAGUUGUUGAAAACAAAGUCAGUAACGGAAGAUAUCUCUGUCGGGCUUGCAACGGGAAGCUGGUUGAUGAAAAGACUCGAGAAAUGAAGGAAUUUCUUGAUAACGCUCCUAAUGCCUCUGAAGGUCUUGCCAUGGAUGGUCCAAGUGCUGGGUUGCCACUGCCAACAUCAGAACUAGUUGGAGAGGAAGCUGUCAGAAAUGAGAUUUGGGCAUGUUUGAUGCAGGAGGAGGUGAUCAAGAUUGGGGUUUGGGGGAUGGGCGGUGUGGGUAAAACAACUAUCAUGAAGCAUAUCCACAAUGAUCUUUUGAAACAACAAAGAUUCGAAAGGGUAAUCUGGGUUACCAUAUCAAAGGAGUUCAAUGUAAUGAAGGUACAAGAUAAUAUUGCAAGUGCGUUGAAGGCGAAGGAAUAUUUAGACGAAGAAGAGGACAAGCUCAUACGAGCAGCAAUCUUGUCAGAAAUGCUGAAGAACGCAGGAAAGCAUGUUCUAAUCCUAGAUGAUGUGUGGGAUAAAGUCUCUCUAGAGGAAGUUGGGAUCCCCGAGCCUAGUGGCAGCAAUGGCUGCAAGUUGGUCUUGACAACCCGUUUGGAGCAUGUCUGUAAGUAUAUGGGUUGUAAGGUGAUAAAAGUGAAGCCCCUGUUAGAAGAAGAGGCAUUGAUACUAUUCUUGAAUAAAGUUGGACCUAACAUAGUUCAAAGUCCAACUAUAAUGCCUACUUUGAAGCUUGUUGUCAAGGAAUGUGCAGGUCUACCUCUUACGAUUGUCGUGGUAGCUGGUACCAUGAAAGGAGAAGAUAACCCUCUUAUUUGGAAAAAUGCACUCGGGGAAUUGAAAGAGAGAAUAGGGAAAGUGGAAGGAGUGGAAGCUGAGGUAAUCGAGCGCUUGAAAUUUAGCUUUGAUCACUUAAAGGACAAGCAAGUGAAACAUUGUGUUUUGUAUUGCGCAUUAUAUCCUGAAGAUUUUGAAUUUUCGAAGGAUGAGCUAAUUGAGUGCUGGAUUGAAGAGGGGUUCAUAGAUGAUAUGGGUACAAGACAAGAAAUGAAAGACAAGGGCCAUGUUAUUUUGAAGAAGUUAGGAGAUAACUGCUUGUUGGAAAAUAUUACUAAUGUAUUUGGUCAACCUCACAUAAAGAUGCAUGAUGCAGUGAGAGACAUGGCACUGUCGAUCAUAAGUAUGAAUCCUCGAUAUAUAGUACAAGCAGGCUUGCAAUGGAGUCCAGGUAUUGAGAAAGUGUCGCUUAUGUAUAACUCCAUAACGGAAUUUCCCGCAGAUGUGCUGCCCACAAAAUGUCAACUGCUCACAACCUUGUUAUUGCGGGGGAACCCUGUAAUGAAGAUCCCAUAUUCUUUAUUCAUGAACAUGCCUUGUCUUAGUGUUCUCAAUUUGUCCUUUACAAAGAUCUUGAGUUUACCAAAUUCCAUCUCUGAACUUAAGAACCUCACAACAUUGUUGCUUCGUGGCUGUCAAGAAUUAAGAGAUCUGCCAUGUCUUUCAAUGCUUCAAGAAUUGAAGAAGUUGGAUCUUUCUGGGACUAAAAUUGAGGAAGUCCCUAAAGGAAUGGAUAUGCUGAUAAAGCUAAGAUAUCUUCAUCUUGAAGUGUUCACUCUGAAAGAGAUACCCGCUGGACUUUUACCAAAACUGGUUCACCUUCAGCACUUGGGUUUUCAUGAGGUCAAUUUAAAAACAAGUCUAAAAGCAGAGGAGAUGGAACCAUUGAAGAAGUUGGAGUUCUUUACUGGACUUUUCGAAGACAUUUAUGAAAUCAAUAAGUUCAUCUCCUCAAUGCAACAAAGUAAGAAAAAUCUCAUCAAGUACUCUUUACAGACGGGCUUAGCUAUUUUCCCUCAUAGAAGAGAUAAAAGAGUAACAAUUGGAAGAGUCCAUAAUUGGGAAGGUGAGUUAAUUAUCCACCCAAUUGAAAUUCAAGAGUUGAAUAUUGUAAAGUGCGACUAUUUGAGAAACUUAGUCGAUGAUAAUUCUUCCUUCAAAAAUGCGAUUGACUUGAGGAUUUAUGAUUGUAAAGGGAUAGAGUGUGUUGUUUCCUUGUCCUCUUUUGCCUCUUCUUCCGCUCAUCCAUUUCAGAGCCUCGAGGUGUUAGAACUUUCUGCUCUGCCAAAGUUGAAUGCCCUUAUUAUGAUAGAUGCAGGAAUUGGUUCAGCAACAACAUCAACAUUGGCUCCGUCUACCACCUUUUCCCAUCUUAAGAAAAUUACGAUAUACAGCUGCUCAAGUAUGAAGACGUUGCUUCCACAUUGGUUGCUUCCAAACCUCCAAAACCUGGAAAAAAUAUCAGUGUCACAUUGUGAUGAGGUAGUAGAAAUAUUGGGAGUAGCAACAUCAGAAGUUGAAGAAAAAGGGAGUGAUGCAUUAAUCAAAUUCCAUCUUCCCAAAUUGAAAGAAUUGAGACUACGUAAGUUACCAAAUUUGAAGAUCAUUUGCAGCAAAAGUGGAGUGAUGGUUUGUGAUUCUCUCCAACUUAUCCAUAUUAUUAGAUGUGAUAAACUGAAGAGAAUUCCUCCAUUUGUUCCCCUUGUUGGCAAUGGGCAGCCAUUUGCAUAUGCUCCACCUUCUCUUACCAUCAGGUCAAGCACAGAUGGUGGGAAUCGUUGGAGUGGGAUGACCAUCCAAACUUUAAAAAUGUUCUCCAACCCCUUUGAAGGAUGAAAGGUAUGAACCAUUUAUGGUCUAGUUUAUUUUUUUAGUUUGAUAAAUCUAAUUUCUCCAUAUUAAUAAAAUUGGAAGUAUAAUUGUGAUGAUGUUGAAGAGAAAGAUAAAAGGGUUGGUAGGAAAGUAGUGGGGGAGGAUAGUGCAAAAGAGAGGAGAAAAGGAAUGAUGGAAGGAAGAGGUUAAGAGCAUAAAUAAGAAAUCAAACUGCCUCCACUUUUUAAACAUUUUCCCUCUCUUACCAUUGCUUGAAACUUGCAUUCAUGUUUUCCUUUUCAUGCUUACACCGAGAUAUCAAUACUUCAUAAAAUAUCCAAUUCAUUCACAGGUUUUCAUUCUCUGCUACUAUUAUAUAUGAUUGCAUUGCAGGGACAUAGCAAUGGAGUACGUAGAGAUCAACAGUUAUAGAUUUUAAGAUCUGAAGCAAUGAUUUCCUCUUCUGAUUAUCAACAGUUACAAUUGAGCACCAAGAUCACUGUAAUACUUGUUAGUGUUGUCCAGAAUGAAUGGAAAGGACAUUUCCAUGGAUAUUAGACCUCAUAUCUAUCUUUCAAAUUUUGAGAGCAAAUUAAAGGUUUUAUUAUCAAGUAUAAAAGUCAGUAUGAAAUACCCAAAAUGCCAACUAAUAAUGGCAGACAGCGAAGCUAAAAGCUAAAAGAAAAGAUGGGAUUUCUUACUAAUAAUUCUGCCUUUGUGGAACCCACCACAAAAGUGAAUGCCUCAUAAUUUUGCCUAUUUUUUUCUUCACUCGCUUCCUUUUUUGGCUUUUGUACCCACAACAUUCUUUCUUCUACACUGUUUUUAUCAAACAUGUAAUUUGUUUCGCUCUUAAAUAUUCUCUUAAGUAUAAAAAUAUAAAUUUAAAGGAUGGAGCAUCAAAUUCACUAAUUUUCAUAAUUAAUUAUCUAAAAACAUGUUAAGAAUAAGAUUAAAAUAUGUUAAUUUUGUAGCUUAUCAUACCCCUAAACCACAACUAAAAAGUUUAAUCUGAUAUGGUGGCAUCCACCAUUAAUAAUUGACUCCCAAUUUUGGUUCUUUUUGUCUUGUUUUCUCUUUGCACUCGUAGUUUUAGAUCAUCAGAGUCUUCAUGGUGGACCCUAGAGCUUAAAGCAGGCUAAAGAUGGUGGAAUCUAAGGUAGUGUGAAACAAACCUGGUCUUGACCUAUAACACUAAAAUUGCUUUAGCUUAAAUGAAAAUGAAAAUAUUUUGUAUGCAUCAUAUCUCUAGUUUAAAUCUUAUUAUCGAUAAUUUUUUAUUGAUUUAUGAAAAGAUGAAAAUACCUUUGUAAUUAUAUAUCUUAUUUUAUAAAUAAAAUGUUUUUUUAGCAAUUUUCUUACUGUGUUCCGACUAAUUGAUGGUUGACACUAUGUUACAAUUUAAGGUAAAUUACACCAUUAGUCAUUCAACCAUGAGUAAGUUUUCGUUUUGAUCAUUUAACUAGAAAAAGUUACAAUUUAGUCACUAAUAUUUUUGAAAUUGUUUUUUAUCACCUAACUAUUAAGUGGCACUUGUUUUAAUUGAUAUGAUAAUAAUUUUAGUCCUCUUUUUUUUAUAUUUUCUAUCAAUUUGACUCUGAUUUUGUACAAAAUUAUAAAAAAAAACUUAAAAUUUUAAAAAUAGAAAAAUGUUUAUAAAAAUUCUAGAAAAAUAAAAUCUUAAAUAUUUUGUUGAAUAACUAAAUUGUAUGAGAAAUAAAGCAAAUUACCAUUCAAUAAAAUCCGAUAACAAAUUAAAAACAGAACAAAACCAAAAAAAAGCUUUCUCAAUGUUUCUCGAAACCAAAUUAGUAAUAUUAUCAAGUUGAGUUUCAUGCCCUUGAAGAACAUCUGGAACUGACAUUACCAAGGCUUAUGAAAUUGACCCUAAUGCCAUUUUUUUAGUCAAAAGAAUACAAGAUAUAAAACAAAAUUUCCUUUUUCAAACUUAAUUCUAUUUUUCAUUACAUUUAAAUUAUUUUUCAAAACUCAAACUAUAAAAAUAAAUUAUAUUUAGAAAAAAAAUUUAUAACGUAAAAGCUAUGUUAAGAAACAGAGAACAAAUAAUUUUGCUUAAUGUUUUUUUUUACCUUUUUUACUAAGGAAUGUGUAUUGGAUAUUUCGAUACAGAUAAUAUAGAGAAAUUUUGUACAGCUUAAAAACAAUUAUCUCUCGUUUUCUCUCACUUUAUUUAUUUUUGAAAUUUUUAUCUACUUUUAUUUAAUAUUUUAUUUUAUAAUGUUCUAAAAUUUUAAAAAUAAUUUUAAUUUUUUUACCAUUUUAUAUAUUAUCAAGAUCAAACUGACUAAAAGUAUAAAAUUUGAGGAUUAAAAUUGUUAUUAUAUCAAUUAAAAAAGUGUCACUUAACAUUUGAGUGACAAAAAAAAUAAUUUCAAAAACAUUAGUGAUGAAAUUGUAACUUUUUUAAUUAAGUGACCAAAAAAAAAAUACCCAUAGUUUAGUGACUAAUAGUGUAGGCUUUUUUUGGUAAAAUGAAAAUUUGACCAUGAUUUUGUAUUAAAAAAACUCAAAAUUAUUUAUAAGAUAGAAAAAUUUGACCAUGAUUUUUUACCCAAAUCAUAUAAAAUAUAAUUAAUUAUGAAAAUGGUAUAGAAAAUAGCUUAAUUACAAAAAUAAGACAUUUGGUACAAUGUUCUGCAGGUGUGGCCUAACAUAUUGGUAGUACUAGAUUAAAAUGUGAUGACUUAAAAUAUUCAAGGACUUGAUAUGCAAAUUUCUCAUUUUAGUUGGCUGUUGAAAAUAAGCUAUAAGAGUUUUUUUUUUUUUUGAAACAAAAGCUAUAAGAGUGUUGUGUGACAGUGUAGCGGCAUAAAAUCUUAAAUAGAGUUAAUUUCUUUGUAAACCGUUAUUAUUUAUUAUUUUAUUUUUAUUCUCCUUCAACACCAAAAUUAGAAAGGCUUCUUACCAAUUAAUCCAGGUCAAAUUAUGUCUGGCAUAAUAGUUAUCACAAUUAAUAGUUAUUUUCUUUGGUUCAUAUUAUAAUUUAUAUAUAGUAAAUAUUUUAAAAAGUUUUUAGAAUUAUAAUUUUAUAUGGUGCCCGUAAAUUAAAUUGAUUAUAAGAUUAUCUGUAAUGGCAGACAGCAAAGAAAAAAGCUAAAAGAAAAAGCAAUAAAAAUAGGAUUUCUUGCUAAAAAUUCUGCCUUUGUGGAUCCUAGCAGAGACUUCAUAAUUUCCCUGUUUUCAUCUUCACUUUCUUCUUAUUUCUUCUUCACUGUUUUUAAUUUGUUUCGAUGUCCAAGGUCUAUCACAAAUUUUGAAGCAUCCAGUCAACGUAAUUUUCUUUCAUUUGCUUAAUUCAUGACAUGCUUUUCUUUGCUUUUGAUUAUCUGCUACUGUUAUAGCAGCUAGCUUUGUAAGAUUGUCAAGGAAGUCAACUUCACUGCUUCAUUUUCAGUUCUAAUCUCUCAAAACUUUUCAGCCACUAAGUCAGGUAAUAGGAUCCGAAGCAAUGAUUUCCUCUACUGAUUAUCAACAGUUUAAGAUUUUAAGACAAGAUGAUCAGCAGACAUAAUCUACUCUAGAUUGAAAUUAAUACAGAAAGAGCUACCCAGAAGCAAUAUAAUGUUGAAAUCUCAUACUGUUAACAUUUUAACUCUUCAUAUUCGGUAAUGAACUGGUGCACACUUGAUUCUAGCAUUUUAUACACAUCGAGGGCUUAAUUCUGGUGACCAGAAUUUCAUCAUGUUUCUGUCUGCCACCCAUCCAUAGCUCCAUCUAAUAGACGCCAUUGCUUGAAACUUGCAUUCAUGUUUUCCUUUUCAUGCUUACACUGACAUCUCAAUACUUCAUAAAAUAUCCAAUUCAUUCACAGAUUUUCAUUCUCUGCUACUGUUAUAUAUGAUUGCAUUGCAAGGACAUAGCAAUGGAAUACGUAGAGCCUGUUGUCUGCACUGCAACUUGUCUCGGAACUCCUGUUUGUAAAUAUUUGUAAUAUCACAGAAAGCUGAACGAUUAUGUGAGAAACUUCAAGAGGAUCAGAGAUGAAUUGAAUUGCAAAAUGGAAGAUACAGAGCUGCAAUUGAAAGCAGAGCUUCUUUCUCCUGGGGGGAAGAUACCAAAGCAGGGAGUUGAAAAUUGAAUGAAAGAUGCGAAAGAGGUGAUUGCGGAAGCACAGGAUGUGGAAAAUAAAGUCAGAAACGGGAGAUAUCUCUGUCGUGCUUGCAACGGUAAGCUGGUUGAUGAAAAGACUCGAGAAAUGAAGGGAUUUCUUGAUAAAGCUCCUAAUGCCUCUGAAGGUCUUGCCAUUGAUGGUCCAAGUGCUGGGUUGCCGCUGCCAACAUCAGAACUAGUUGGAGAGGAAGCUGUCAGAAAUGAGAUUUGGGCAUGUUUGAUGCAGGAGGAGGUGAGCAAGAUUGGGGUUUGGGGGAUGGGCGGUGUAGGUAAAACCACUAUCAUGAAGCACAUCCACAAUGAUCUUUUAAAGCAACAAAGAUUUGAAAGGGUAAUCUGGGUUACCAUAUCAAAGGAGUUCAAUGAAAUGAAGGUACAAGAUGAUAUUGCAGCUGCUUUGAAGUUGAAGGAAGAUUGGCCCAGAGAAGGAGACAAACUCAGACGAGCUACAAUCUUGUCAGAAAUGCUGAAGAAAGUAGGAAAGCAUGUUCUAAUCCUAGAUGAUGUGUGGGAUGAAGUCUCUCUAGAAGAAGUUGGGAUCCCUGAGCCGAGUGACAGCAAUGGCUGCAAGUUGGUGUUGACAACCCGUUCGGAGCAUGUCUUUAAGUAUAUGGGUUGCACGGUGGUAAAAGUGAAGCCCCUUUCAGCACAACAGGCAUUGACACUAUUCUUGAGUAAAGUUGGCCCUAACAUAGUGCAAAAUCAAACUUUAAUGCCAAUUUUAAGGCACGUUGUCGAAGAAUGUGCGGGUCUACCUCUUACAAUUGUCGUCAUAGCUGGUACAUUGAGAGGAGAAGAUGAUCCUCUUAUUUGGAAAAACACACUCAGGGAAUUGAAAGAGAGAAUAGGGAAAGUGAAAGAAGGGGAAGAUAAAGUGAUCGAGAGUUUGAAAGUUAGCUUCAAUCACUUAAAAGACGAGAAAAUGAAGCAUUGUUUCUUACAUUGCGCAUUAUAUCCCGAAGAUUUUGGAAUUGAAAAGCAUGGGCUAAUUGAUAGCUGGAUUGAAGAGGGAUUCAUAGAUGACAUGAGUACAAGACAAGAAACGAAAGAUAAGGGUCAUGUUAUUUUGAAGAAAUUAGAAGAUAAUUGCUUGUUGGAAAAUGUCUCGAGUGUAACAGUGAAAAUGCAUGAUGCAGUGAGAGACAUGGCAUUGUCGAUAACAAGAAUGAAUCCUCGAUAUAUGAUACAAGCAGGGUCGCAAUUAGAAGAGUUACCAGAAAAGGAGCAAUGGAGUCCGGAUAUUGAGAAAGUGUCACUUAUGUAUAACUCCAUAUCAGAAAUUUCCAUAGAUGUGCAGCCCACAAAAUGUCAACUGAUCACAACCUUGUUAUUGCAGGAGAACCCUAUAAAGAAGAUCUCAAGUUCUUUCUUCACAAACAUGCCUUGUCUUAGUGUUCUCAAUUUGUCCUUUACGAAGAUAAAAAGUUUACCAAAUUCCAUCUCUGAACUAAAGAACCUCACAACAUUGUUGCUUUGUGGUUGUGAAGAAUUAAGAGAUCUGCCAUGUCUUUCGAUGCUUCAAGAAUUGAAGAAGUUGGAUCUUUCUGCGACUAAAAUUGAGGAAGUCCCUGAAGGAAUGGAUAUGCUGAUAAAGCUAAGAUAUCUUGAUCUUAGAGUGCGCACUCUGAAAGAGAUACCCGCUGGACUUUUACCAAAAUUCGUUCACCUUCAGCACUUGGGUUUUCAUGAGAACAAUGAAAAAACAAGUCUAAAAGCAGAGGAGAUGGAACCAUUGAAGAAGUUGGAGUGCUUAACUGGACAUUUCGAAGACAUCAGUGAAUUCAAUAAGUUCAUCUCCUCAAUGCAACAAAGUAAGAAAAAUCUCAUCAAGUACUUUUUACAGGUGGGCUCAUAUAAUGUGUGUAUUGGAAGGGAGAAAACAGUAACAAUUGGAGGAGUCCAGAAUUGGGAAGGUGAGUUAAUUAUGCACCCAAUUGAAAUUCGAGAUUUGACUAUUAUAAGGUGCGACUAUAUCAGAAACUUAGUCGAUGAUAAUUCUUCCUUCAAAAAUGCGAUUGACUUGAGGGUUUGUAGGAUUCGAGGGUGUGAAGGGAUAGAGUGUGUUGUUUCCCUGUGCUCUUUGGCCUCUUCUUUCGCUCAUCCAUUUCAGAGCCUCGAGGUGUUGCAUCUUCAAUCUCUGCCAAAGUUGAGUGCCCUUAUUAUGAAUGAUGCAGGAAUUGGUUCAGCAACAACAUCAAAAUUGGCUCCGUCUGCCACCUUCUCCCAUCUCAAGGAAAUUAUGAUAGUGAACUGCUCAAGUAUGAAGACGCUGCUUCCACAUUGGUUGCUUCCAAACCUCCAAAACCUGGAAGAAAUAGAUGUGGAUGCUUGUAGUCAGCUAGUAGAAAUAUUGGGAGCAGCAACAUCAGAAGUUGAAGAAAAAGGGAGUGAUGCAUUAAUCAAAUUCCAUCUUCCCAAACUGAGAGUGCUGUCAUUCUGGGAAUUACCAAAUUUGAAGAGCAUAUGCAGCAAAAGUGGAGUGAUGGUUUGUGAUUCUCUCCAACUUAUCCAAGUUGCUGGAGACUGUUAUAAACUGAAGAGAAUUCCUCCAUUUGUUCCUCUUGUUGGCAAUGGGCAGCCAUUUGCAUAUGUUCCGCCUUCUCUUACCAUCUUCUCAAGCACAGCAUGGUGGGAAUCGUUGGAGUGGGAUGACCAUCCAAACUUAAAAAAUGUUCUUCGCUUCAACCCCCGUGGAGGAUAAGAGGUAUGAACCAUUUAUGGUUUAGUUUAUUUUUUUAUUUUGAUAAAUCUAAGUUCUCCAUAUUAAUAAAAUUUGAAGUAUAUUUGUGAAGAUGUUGAAGAGAAAGAUAAAAGGGUUGGUGGGAAAGAAGUAGGGGGGAGGAUAGUGCAAAAGAGAGGAGAAAAGGAAUGAUGGAAGGAAGAGGUUAAGAGCAUGGAGACUGAGAGGCAAAGGUAAAUAAGAAAUCAAACUGCCUCCACUUUUUAAGCAUUUUCCCUCUCUUGCCAUUCCUUCUAUUCUCUUAUAUAUUCUUCUCUAGUAUAUAAUAUAUAUACUUCCCAAAAUAACCUUCUAAAUAUUUAUUAUUAAAAUAUUUAUAUUAAUCAAAAUGAUUUAAGGUGAGACAAAACUAUGAUCAUAGUUUUAUUUCCAAUAAAAGUUAGGAAAGUAUUGUAAAAAGACAUAAUAUUUUUUAAUUUCCAUGUAAAAUUUCUGAAAACAUUAAGAUUUAAAAAAUAAUAAUAUAGUUAGAAAUUAAUACCAAGAGAGCUACCCAGAAGCAAUAUAAUGUUGAAAUCCCAAACUGUUGAACAAUUUACCUCUUAAUAUUCUGUUGCACACUUGAAUCCAGCAUUUUCUAUACAUUGAGAGGUUAAUUCUGGAUAUACAAAUUUCAUCAUGUUUCUGUCUGCCACCCAUCCAUGGCUCCAUCUAAUAAACGCCAUUGCUUGAAACUUGCAUUCAUGCUUACACUGACAUAUCAAAAAGCCAAUACAUUCACAGAUUUUCAUUCUUUGCUACUGCUAUAUAUGAUUGCAUUGCAGGGACAUAGCAAUGGAGUACGUAGAGCCUGUUGUCGACAUUGCAAAUUGUCUCGGAACUCCUGUUUGUAAAUAUUUGCAAUAUCACAGAAAGCUGAACGCUAAUGUGAUUAACUUCAAGAGGAUCAGAGAUGAAUUGAAUUGUAAAAUGGAAGAUGUAGAGCUGCAAUUGAAAGCAGAGCUUCUUCGUCCUCUGGGGAAGAUACCGAAGAAGGGAGUUGAAAAUUGGUUGAAAGAUGUGAAAAAGAUGAUUAGGGAAGCACAAGUUGAAAACAAAGUCAGUAACGGGAGAUAUCUCUGUCGUGCUUGCAACGGGAAGCUGGUUGAUGAAAAGACUAGAGAAAUGAAGGAAUUUCUUGAUAACGCUCCUAAUGCCUCUGAAGGUCUUGCCAUGGAUGGUCCAAGUGCUGGGUUGCCACUGCCAACAUCAGAACUAGUUGGAGAAGAAGCUGUCAGAAAUGAGAUUUGGGCAUGUUUGAUGCAGGAGGAGGUGAGCAAGAUUGGGGUUUGCGGGAUGGGCAUAAAAAAUUAUUAAAAUAGAUCAUUGCUAAUUCUCUCUUUACUUAAUCGGUAAGUUUCUCUCUUCAAAUCCUUUUAUUUCUUUAUUGAAUCCAUCGCAUAUCAUUUGCAAAUUAACCGAUUUCUCUACAGUUUGUUUGUUCAAUUUUUCUUUUUCCAGUUUUUUUUCUUGAUUUAGAUGGAAGAUUCUUUUGUUGCAUUUGAAGAGUUUCUAAAAAUUUUAGGGUUAUCCUAAAUCUAACUUUCUCGACACCACGUGCACGUAUAAAUUCCUUUCGUGGAGAUUAUUUAUCAUGUUUGUGUGUUUCGUCUUUUGAGGUUGAGCUGUUUUUAUUUUCAAAAAUAAAUAUUUAUUUCCUUUUGCAUUUAUUUCUAAGAUCACCAUAAAUUGUUUAGGGUUGUGUAUUUUGGGGACUUUGGGUGGUUUAAUUUGGGGAUUUUGGGUAAGGGUUUUGAUUUUGGGAAUUUUUGUUUAGGGGUUUUUAAUUUUGGAGAUUUUAGGGAUUUCUUACACCGCCCUCCUCAUCACCUUCAAAGCCAAGAAAUCUACAUCUAGGUUCAUGCGAAAAGUCGCCAGAACUCAUGUUUAAAACCUCGGGUCACUUCUGCCAUGCGGAUUGCAUCGAACUGAUCGACGACUCUACCAAAUAGCUCCAAAAAUCUAUACGUAAAUUUUUUUCAUAUCAGAUGCUCCAACUUUGUGCUUAUGAGUGAUCUUCAAACCUAGGUUAAUGCUGCUCUGACAAAUGAAGAUACUUGCAUGGAUGGAUUCUUAAGCAGGGCUAUGAAUGGGUAUGCAAAGAUGAUGGUGAGGAACGAAUUAUUAAUAUCACAUAUUUGACGAGCAAUGUUUUGGCUCUCAUCAAUAACUAUGCUUCAUCUCAGAUCCUUCAUUGAUUUUCUUGAGAAAAUUUUGAUGGCAAGGAAAGCAUUCAUGGAUUUAUGUUCAAUAUGGGAUUUUAUGGUUUUCGAAUAGGACUUAAGUUUUUAAGGUACUGUAGAUUGUGUUCUCAAUUCUAUGUUUGUGGUUAUUGAUUUUUGCAGUUGUAUCUGUUUGAAUAUGAAAUUUGUGUUUGUGUAUGUUUAGGGUUUUUUUAUUGUUCUUUUAAUAAUUUUAAAACCAUUUACUGACGUGGUAUAUAAGAGAAAUAAUAUUAUGGUAGUAUCUAAAUUUAUUUGGACCGUCAUGUCAGAGGUUAAUGUUUGACCGUUAAACAACUAACAGCCACAUCAGCCUCUAGGUUAAAAACAAACCAAUUUGUUAAAAAUUUAAAUUUUGCACUAUAAAAUUAAUUUUUAAAAUUAACUAUUCAAUUUGUAAUUGAUUUUAUUAAAUUAAAAUAUUCACUAAUGUUUAAAAAUAUUCUCCAUGUUAAUUAAAAAAAAUAUUUAAGAAUUCAGUUAAAUGGUAAUCAAUUUAUAUUAAAAUAUCAGCUUUAUUGGUUGUAUUAUUUCAUUAAUGUUCUUAUAAUAUUAUUUCAUUUUUAUUUAUAGACACCAACUUCAAAAUCAGAAGAGGAUCAAUUUACGAGAAGAUAUGAUUCAUACUGUAAACGAUAAAUAAGAUAUUAUAAAUUGAUAUGAUUAAAAUUUAAAUAAUAUACAAAGAGUAGUAAAAUAAAUUUAAAACAUUUGAUAUGACCUAAAUGAACUAUAAUAAAAGGAUUAUAUAUUUUGAAAUGGUGAUCUGAGAGACAACUAAUCAAUCCUACUAUUUUGUCUUUUAUAAAUAAUUUGUGAUCGAAGAUCCAUCAAAGAUGACUCACAUAUGUUUCCCAAAGAUAUGAUAUAUAUAUAUAUAUUCCUAUCAAGCAAGUUGACAGCUAAAGGGUGCAAUUUUGACUUUGCUAAAUUCUCUAGCAUCAAAGAGGCAAGAUAUGUUGCAAACAAAACAUAAACCAAUAUCAACCCCUACUUUUGUAUGAUAGAGAAAAUAUGAUGUACAAGUUUACAGUCAUGGAAUGUAUUAGGUGCAUUGAAGAUAAUUCAGUGUUAGAAUCAAAGAUAUUUAGGAAAAAAUGUUUGAUUGUCAUUACAAGAAUAUCUUUAAAGUUAAUAGUUUGAGAGAUAAUUUUAAGUAGGAAAUGGAAGGCAUUGCUAUAAAGAGAAUCUCAAGAAAGUAAUUUCGUUUUGAGUUUCAAGUGAAAGGAAUGAAAGAAAGGUUGCUUAAAUAAAUAUGGGAUUGGAUAUUGAGCUCUUUUGAAUAGUUGGAGCGAAAGACACAUGGACCAUAUGAAAUUCAAGUCUACCAAAGUAAUGCUAAUCAGAUUCCUCUUUGGAAAUGAUCAACUUUUCAAAACAUUGUCAAUCUACCUUGAAAGGUGGCAUCGGUGAAAGAAUCAAUCAUGAAAUAUUAAAAUUAUACUAAAAUGACUAUAAAGAUUUAUUUCCCCCAUAAAUAAACAUAUUGUUAUUCUUCCUUAAAAAUUAACAUGAUUUUAUCUUAAUAGACAUGUAUAUAUAUUUAUGUGUCAAAAUAGCCUUCUAAAAUAUUUAUUUUAGAAAAUAAUUUAUAUAAGACAUAUAACAAUUAAUUAUAAACUUAUUUUGAUAUGAUGUCAAAAUUAAAUAUUAUAAUGGUCCUUUACCACAUUCAACACUAAAUAAACUUUAAAUUUUAUAAUAAAAAGCAUACAUAGGCUUCAAAUUUUAAGUUUAAAAUAUGGGAUAAUAGUUGACUAUAGACCCAUCCAUGGGCCCUUGAUCGGAGUCGGUUCUAUAUAGAUAAAGUUUUUUUAUAAUUCGGGUCAGCCCAACCCAAAUUUAAUUUAAAUAAUAAAAAAUUUAUUUUUAAAAUUUAAAUUUAUUUAUAAAAAUAUGCUCUCUUUUUUUAACAUUGAAACGAGCUUUUUAGGUAGAUCGAGUUAGGUCGAAAAUGGGUUUGGACUUGAAAAUUUUAGAUUAUUUUUAAGAGAAUAAUAAUAUCAAGGAGUCUAAUAAUUAAAAAUUUUAUAUUAAAUUUUUAUUGUUUGAAAUCUUCUAAUAACAUAAAAAAAAUUUAAACCAAAGUUUUUAAAAGAAUUUAGGGUAAACUACACCAUUAGUUACUCAAAAAAGGGUCAAUUUUCAUUUUGGUCACUUAACUAAAAUAAGAUACAAUUUGGUCACUAAUGUUUCUAGAAAAAAGUUUUGGUCACCCGACUAUUAAGUGGCGCUUACUUUAGCUAGUAUGAUAACAAUUUUUGUCACAUCCCAAAAAUCAAGUUAGUAGAAAUUGGGUUUGUGAAACCAAGAGUGGUGACGUCCUAUUUUUGAGUUAAGUUUGUGAAAAUUAUGUUAAGUAAAUUGAUUUGGUUUAGUGGUUAAGUGCUUUGGACGUGUCUAAAGUCUUGUGUUCAAAUCUUUUCCCUUAAAUUUUCAUUAUUUUUGUCCUAACUUCCAUCUCUGAACAUCUAGCUUAUAUAUUAUUUUUGCUCAAUUGAUGAUAAGAAUGAGUUUGUUAGUUUAGUGGUAAGGCUUUAGUUUACUUAGAGGUCUUGUGUUUGAAUCUUAUGUGUGUAAAGUGGAAUUAUUUUUGUUUUUAAUAAGAAAUUUUUUUUAUAAGGAUAACUAAUCAAAUUGAGUGGGGAAGUUUUUCAUUUUCCUACGAACUUUCCCCAAAAUUCGCCUCAUUCUGUCAUCCACUUCUUGCCACAUUGUUCACGUUUUCUUUUCCCUUUUCUUUUUCCAUCUGCUGAUUUCUAUUUUCUUUUUGCUUUAGUAGUUUUGUUGCCUUCCUUUCUCAUCUUUGCUCUACUAUUUUCUUUUGUGUUAUUAUAUUGGUAUGUUGUUCAAUCUCUGUUAUUCCUUCGGGUAAGUGUUGGCUAUUUGUUUUUAUAUAAAUGUGGUGUUGGGUUAAUCUUUCAAGUGAUUGAUGGUUUCAAGUUUGAUCUUCGUAAUGUGUUGUUAGGAGAAGAUCGACAAACUCGUGAAUUGUCUCCAGCGGUUUAAGUGCGGGAAAGGGCUGUUGUUUUUGCAAGGGUAAAUGAUUAAAGUUUUCAACUGGAGGCUGAUUCGGUUUCUUAGGCUAAGUGUUUAGCAUUUGUGAUCGAAUUAGUGACUUGGAUUUAGCAUAUUACUAAUAAUUCUUACAUUCUAAAAUGCCAGUUUAGGUACUGGAAUCCUUGUAGUGGUGUUAACAUCGAAAAUUGACUAGGUGUGUAACGGAAAAAUCAAAAAAUAGCGAACGACACGAUGUCAAAAAACCCACUAUCGACGUCACACAGCCAUUUGCCAGGUUAUGUGGGUCAUAUGGGCUGGGUUAUUUGGGCCAUGUGUGUCAGGCUGUGUGCCAGGCCGUGCAGGCUACACGAGUUGGGUCAGUUAGGCCGUGUGGGACCAUUUUUUGUAAAAUUCCAUCAGGGUCGUUUUUGAAGUGCAAUUUGAAAUUAUUCACUUCUUAGGUUCCGAAAUGUGUUAUGUAUGCAUUCUGGAUACGAAAUUUGAUAUUUUGUUUCUGUUAAUGUGAUUUUUGAAAGCAUAUUAUUCAAUAUUGGCAUUGUACGUGUAAUCUGUAAUUUGAGAAUCUAUUUAAGCAUGAUUCAUUUAUGUGCAUCUCAGUAUGUAAAAUGUUUUGACAUGUGCAUUGGGGUGGGAUGAUGAUGUGAUGGAGGAGGUGUUUGGCAGUUUAACUGCAUACUAAUAUUUAUAAGCCAUCGUUGUCGAGCAACUCGAGAUAACUUAAUUUGUGGUUUAACAUAACUUAAUUUGUGGUUUAACCUCAUAUCUAAUAUGGUGGAUUGACCACACUUAUUGAUUUUGGCAAAAUACCGCAUUAUUUAUGGCAGCUUGACUACGCUAUUCUAAAAAGUGAUAUACGCUCACUUAUUGGUGUGACGGAUGGAUUGGCUCUUAUAGUCCUAUUUGGUGUGUAUUGGUGGGAUAGAGAUGGUGUGUAGUGGAUAGGUGUAGGAUCUAUUUAUGUGUCUGUAUUUGCAUUUGUAUUUGUAUCUGUAUCUGCUUUUAUAUAUGAGAUUGCAUCUGUAUCUAAAAUUGAAAUUAUAUAUGUAAUUGAAUUGUAUAUAUUUCUGUAAUUGUUACUGAAUUUGAGUCUAUUCUGCCUAUUUGGGUUGAGUUACACACUAAGCCUAUAAGCUCACCCAAGUUCUUUGACUUCUCAGGUAAUUAGCAUACUUAGGACCAAAAGACGUGCAGAAGCUCAGAUUGGGUUCUCAGUUAUUUAAGUAUGAUGGUUCAUGUUUUUAAAUUAUUUUGGACUUUCUAGAUUUUUUGGGGGGCUGUAAAUCUGUUUCUGUAUUUCGCUUUACGUUUUGGUUUGCUUAGUUGAAUUUAGUAAUUAUUACUUAAAACUACAAAGUUUUGUUGCAAUACCCAAAUUUUAGCCCGGGCUCACAUAUGGAAACAUAAUCUUCGAGGAUAUGCAAUCUUAGAUAUGAUAUGUAAUCUUAGAAGAUAUGAUUUUGUAAUCUUAGAGAUUUAAUUUGUAGAUACCCUUUAAUCUUCGCCGUUGAUGUAAUUGAUCUGUACCGUUGGAUUUGGGGAGGCUCAACUAUAAAUAGAGACCUCUCCCUUCAUUGCAAAAAAAAAAAGGGAGGAAGAAAAAAUCAAUAAAAAGGGAGAACGAUUGACAGUUUUUUAAAGGUGGCUUUUUUUCCGAUUAUCUUUUUACUUAUUUACGAUUUUAAAAAAGGGAGAAUGUGAUAUUACUGCGAAUUUUAUUUAUUUAUUUUUAUUAUUUAGCCCUAAUAAAGUGACGCGUUUCAAAGGAUGGAGAUAUUUUCCCAUUCGAGCCCUAUGAGUUAUUCGCACCUUUUAAUUGGGCCCUUCAUUUUUUUUCUUCUUUAAUUCUGUUGAUUUUCAAUUUAAUCCUUAAUCUUUCAUUUUAGGUUUUUAGUCUAUUUUAUUAAUUUUGUUAUUAUUAUUUUUAUUAUUAUAUUAUAUAUUAUUAUUAUACCUACAUAUAUGUGCGCAUAUGCAUGUUAAUAUAUAUACAUAUAUAUUUUAAACGUUUUAAUAUAUAUACAUAUUAUAUACAUACUUUAUUAUUAUUUUAUUUUCAUAGUUUUUUAUACAUAUAUACACACACAUUUAUAUUUCAUAAUAUUUAUACGUUUGCCCAUAUUCUAUGAUUUUUAUGUACACAUAUAUUUAUACUCCAUUCAAAGCUUAUUAUAAAUAUUUUCAGCGUUUUUAUAUUAUACUUAUAUAUUUCAUUUUUUUUGUAAAUGCAUGAAUAUAUUUUAUAUGUAUAUAUUUAUAUUUUCCUUGUUUUCAUAAAUGCAUUAUGUAUUAUAUAUAUAUAUAAGUUUUAUAACCUAAAAUUUUAUGAGUAAAUUAUCUUUAUGUCUUUUAUUCUUCAUAAUUUCAAAUGUAUAUAUAUUUUGUCCCUUUUUCUCUUUAUAUUUUGUUGUUUAUUUUCUUGAUUUGCUUAUUGAUUUAUGUUUUCAUUUAUAUUCAUUUGAUACUUUACAUGUCGUUGUUUAUGUACAUUAAUUUUGUUUAUUUCUAUGCCAUUGUUGUAUUUAUUAUUACAUUUUAUAUUUAAUGUAGCAUCACAUCAUUUUUUUUUCGAUUUUAAAAUUUUCAAAAUUGAGAUAACACUCGUAUUUAGGAUUUUCAAGGAAAUUGAGCCCUAACGUAUUGGGUUCCCAUUUUCUUCGUUAAAUAGAACGAUUGAGGGUUGCUCAUUAGUAAAAAAUAUAUAAAAUAAAAGGCUUGUUGUUGGGGAGUUAAAUAUGUUGUAUCCUAACGUAUUGGAUGUGACGUAUUGAUUUCUCGAGACAAAGAUUUUUUGAAAAAAUAAUAAUAAAGGAAAUAUUUCAAGUUUGGGAUUUUGAGGAAUUGUGCCCUAAUGUAUUGGGCCGCGAUUUCUUAAAUCUUAAACAAAUGAAUAUUCUUUUAAAUUUUUAUUACACGAGUUUUAGACUAAUUCAUUUUUGAGGAAAUUAGAAUGUUGUGCCCUAACACAUUGGGUGUGACAUUUUCUUUCUCUGAAAUGAUAAGGGUCUUAAUAAGUAACGUUUUUAAGUUUUUGCUAAGGAUUAUAUUUUUCAAAUUUUCGACAUUAAGACACUAAUUAAUUAACUAGGUACCAAUUUUGGGCGUUACAAGGGUGCUAAUCCUUCCUCGUACGUAACCGACUCCCGGAUCUGUUUUUCUAAAACUCGUAGACCAAAGCCGUUUUUUUAGGUGAUCCAAUCACACCUCAAUAAAAGAUUGGUGGCGACUCCCAAUUUUCAUUUUUUUAAGUCAACAACCUAAAUUUUUUGUUUUUCCAAAAAAAUGGUUUCGACAUUUGUGUUUUACAAAUUAAGUCACGAUUUUCAAAUUUUAAUACUUUGAAAUUUCUGCUGCAAAAUAAAGUAAUCAUUUAAGUGUUUUUCUAUAAUAAAAUAAAUAGUUUUAAUGAGUGUUUUCUUAAAAACUAGAAAGUGAUUUGCCAAAAUUAAUAUUGCCAAAACACACUAUUUCAAAUUCAAUUUCUAGGUUUUUAAAUAAGCUAAUGUAAUUCCUCCAAAUUUGGUAAUAACGUCUAGGCCGGUUUUGGGAUGUUACAAUUUUAAUUCUUAAUUUUUAUAUUUUUACCAAAUUGACCCUAAUUUUAUAUAAAAAUUAUAAAAAAACUCAAAAUCAUUUAUAAAAUAGAAAAAUGUAUGUAAAAUUCUAGAAAAAUAAAAUCUUGAAUAUGUUGUUGAAGAACUAAAUUGUAUGAGAAAUAAAGAAAAGUAUCAUUCAAUAGAAUCCAAUAACAAACUAGGCACAUAACAAAAUAAAAAAGUUAGAUCAUUACAUACUUCCUCAACGUUUCUCGAAACCAAAUUAGUAAUAUUAUCUAGUUGAGUUUCAUGCUCUUGAAUAACAUUUAGAACCGGUAUUACGGAGGCUUAUGAAAUCGACUCGGAUGUCAUUUUUUUUAGUCAAAAGAUUACAAAAUAUACCACAAAAUUUUUUUUCAAACUCAAUUCAAAAUUUAAUUAUAAUUAAAAUAUUUUUCAUAACCCAAAUUGUAAAAACAAAUUAUGUUUCUUCUUCCAUGGUCGAGUUGGGCUUGGAAAAGGUUUUUAUGUCUUGAGCCGUUACAACUUGAAUUCAAUUUAAAUAAUAAAAGUUAUUUUUAAAAUUUAAAUUUAAUUAAAAAUAUAAAAUUUUUUUUAAUAUUUUAUUAUUUUCUGAACUCUAAAUGGACUUUUGGAGUGACCAAGCUAGGCUAAAAAUGGGUUAGGCUUGAAAAAUUUUUAGAUUAUUUAUAAGAGUAUAUCAAGGUGUCUAACAAUUACAAUUUUUUUUGAAAGGUCUUAAUAACACUAGAAAUCUUAUCACACACGUAUACAUGUGAAAAUCACGUAUUUAUAACACAGACUGUGUUUAAAAAUAACAAACAAUGAAUACUGAAAAGUAUAAUUUGGAACUAAUUAAUAAUAACACGUUAAAUAUGUAUGAUAUUAAAAUAAAAAUUAGAUUAAAUUGAGAGUAAAACAAAAUCUAAACACAAAAACACAUCAUAUUAAGAAUACUAAAUGAAUACAAAUGUUUAUCAUUGUUUUGUCUUCAAUCCCCAGUUGGUGAUGCUAAAUCAAUAACAUUAUUUACAUACACAAAUAUAUAAAAAUUUAGAACACAAAUGUUUAUCUGUUAUAAAAACAUGUAUGACAUGUACAUUUCUGACAUUUGUUAAUUAUGCAUGUGCAUUAGGAUGAGAUUUGUGUUUACGGAGGAACUGUGGGAGUUUAAUUCAUUUGCCAUAUUUGGUGGCUCAGCCACGCAUAUUUCUGCAUUUAGCGAUGAAUCACCUAAUGAUCUGGCAGUUAGGCUGCGAAUACUUUGAAAAGUUUUAUACUGACACUAAGCGGUGUGUAGGGUUUGAUGGGUAUUUAAUACCCUAUAUAGUGUGUAGGGAUGGUCGGAGAUGGUGUGUAACGGAUCGGAGUAGGAUUGUAAUCUACACCUGAUAUUUUUUUAUUCUGUUUCUGUAUAUGAUAUAUGUCUAAUUGACUUCCGAAAGCAUGUUUGAAAAUUAUAUAUGAUAUUUUAACUCUUAUAAGUUACAUAUUGAGCUUCUAAGCUCACUCUUAGUUUCUCUUAUUCUUAGGUAAUCCUUAGAUUUAGUCGGUGCGACUGGAGCUCGGUUAAUUAUCUUCUUGGUAUAUUUGUUAUUUUAAUUUGGUUUAUUCUAUUUUGGUUUUGAAUUGUUUUUGGACUGUUUUUAAGUUUAGGUUUAUUUUCGUUUUAUUUAUUUAUUUAAACGUUUUUGGUUGGUUUAAAUUUGAUCUACAAAAUUUUAAAUUACAUAGCAACAAACCGUGUUUUGAAAAUUGGACUCAACUAAGAAUUUUCGCUGCAAACGUAAGUGUUUUACGAAUAAAUAAUCGACAAAUUUAUCGAAAUGGUUAAGAAGGAUAUUUUCCCCAAAUAAACUAGGAUUUUACUUAAUAAGAGCUAGCAUUGUUUUAUAAGUCGAACGGAUUCUGGAUUUUCAAAUAAAUUGUAGUAACAUCUCUAGAUUUGGCCAUAACGUCUAGGUCAGAUUUAGGGUGUUACAGAGCCUAUAAGCUCACCCAAUGUUUCUAAGUUCUCAAUUAUCAACAUAUUUAGGACCAGAUGACGUGCAGGAGAUCAGAUUGAGUUCUCAAUUAUUUAAGUAUGAUGGUUCAUGUUUUAAAAUUAUUCUGGACAUUCUGAUUUUUUUGGGGGUUGUAAAUCUUUUUUCAGAUUUUGCUUUGCUUAGUUGGAUUUAGUAAUUAUUACUUUAAACUACAAGAUUUUGUGUUUUAAAAAUUAAGUCAUGGUUUUCAAAUUUUAGUACUCUAAAAUUUUCACUGCAAAAUAAAGUAAUCACUUAAGUGUUUUUCUAUAACAAAAUAAAUAAUUUUAAUGAUUAUUUUCUUAAAAAUUGAAAAGUGAUUCGCCAGAAUUAAUAUUGUCAAAACACACAAUUUCAAAUUUAUUUUCUGGGUUUUUAGACAAGUUAAUGUAAUUCCUCCAGAUUCAACCAUAAAGUAUAAACCAAGUUUGUGGCGUUACAAUUUUUGUCCUCAAUUUAUAUAUAUAUUUAUCAAUUUGACCCUGAUUUUAUAUAAAAAAUUUAAAAUCAUUUAUAAAAUAGAAAAAUGUAUAUAAAAUUCUAGAAAAAUAAAAUAUUGAAUUUGUUGAUGAAGAGCUAAAUGUAUGAGAAAUAAAGAAAAUAUCAUUCAAUAGAAUCCAAUAACAAUAAAGAAACAAAACGAAAUAAAAAAGUUCAGUUUCAUGCUCUUGAAGAACAUCUAGGAUUGAUAUUACAAAGACUUAUAAAAUUGACCCGGAUGUCUUCUUCUUCUUUUUUUGUCAAAAGAUUACAAAAUAUACCACAAUUUUUUUUUCAAACUCAGUUCAAAUUUUGAUUACAUUUAAAUUAUUUUUCAAAACUCAAAUUGUAAAAACAAAAUUUGUUUCUUCUUCCAUGGUUGAGUUGGGCUUGGACAAGGUUUUUAUGUCACGAGUUGUUCCAACUCGAAUUCAAUUUAAAUAAUAAAAAAUAUUUUUAAAUUUUAAAUUUAAUUAAGAAUAUAAAAAUAUUUUAUUAUUUUUUGAACUCUCAAAUGGACUUUUUUAGGUUGACUGAGCUGGGCGAAAAAUGGGUUAGGCUUGAAAAAAUUUUAGAUUAUUUUUAAGAGUAUAUCAAGGAGUCUAAUUAUUACAAUUUUUUUAAAAGGUUUUAAUAACACUAGAAAUCUUAUCACACGCAUAUGCGUGUGAAAAUCACGUAUUUAGAACGCAUAUUUGCUUUUAAAAAGAACAUACAAUAAAUAAUGAAAAGUAUGAUUCGAAACAAAUUAAUAAUAACAAAUGAAAUAUGUAUGAUAUUAAAAUAAAGAUUAGAUUAAAUUGAGAGUGACACAAAAUUUAAACACAAAAACACAUGAAUAUUAAAUGAAAACAAAUGUUUAUCAUUGUUUUGUCUUCAAUACUGAGUUGGUGUCAUGCUCAUUGGUGACGCUAAAUCAAUGACAUUAUUUACAUAUACAAAUAUAUAAAAAUUUAUAAUACAAAUAUACUUAUUAAAGUUUCAAAUGAAAACCUUAAAUUGUUUUAGUUAUAAUGUAAAUGAAAAAGCUUUAUAUGCACGGUGUCUCCUAGUUCAAAUAUCAUUAUGGGUAAUUUUUUUAUUGAUUUAUAAAGAAAAUAUAAAAUGAUGAAAACACUCUCAUAAACAUAUAUCUUACUUUGCAAAUAAAAUAGUAUUUUUGGUAAUUUUCUUAUUGAGUUGGGACUUGAUUGAUGUGUGACACCAACUCAGUAAAAUGCUUAAUACAUAGUAUAGAUAAAACAAUUCUAAACUAAAUUUUUUAAAAGAAUUUAGGGUAAAAUUCAACUAUGGUUAAGUUUUCAUUUUGGUCACUUAACUAAAAUAUGUUACAAUUUGAUCACUAAUGUUUUCGAAAUUAUUUUCUUUUUGCUCACCCGGCUGUUAAGUGGCACUUGUUUCACUUGAUAUAAUAAUAAUUCUAGUCAUCAAUUUUUAUAUUUUCUGUCAAGUUGACUCUGAUUGUGUAUAAAAAAUUAUUAAAAGAAACUCAAAAUAUUUAUAAAAUAGAAAAUGUAGAUAAGAUUUCUAGAAAAAUAAAAUCUUGAAGUUGUUGAAUAACUAGUAUGAAAAAUAAAGAAAAUUAACAAAUUAAAAACAAAACAAAACAAAGUUACGUUUUGCACCUUAUACUUGUUCAUAAUAGCUAAUAUUCACAUAAUUUUCAAUUCAGUCCAUUUUAGUGAUGAAUUCACUAAAUUCUAGUUACAGCUAAACAUAUAGAUGAAAUCAAGUACAAUUUACACAUUAUAUAAAACCAGAUAGUAAGUUUCUUAUUUAAAACUGUUGAACAUUUUACCUCUUUAAUGUUAAAACUCAUUUCUAAUACAACUCAUUGACUUGUAUAUUUAAUUUCAAGUUGUAUAUUCAAUACUGACAACUUCAGCAAUGCAAAUCAUUUAGUAAUGGGGUGCCAAUAACUAUACCUAACACAACUCGUUUACUUGUAUAUUUAAUUUCAGGUUGUAACUUAUAAUUAUGCAUUCUAUUAUUAUUAUUAUUAUUUAUUGCCAUCUUCAAUGAUUUUGUUUUGAUGUCCAAGGUCUACCAUAACAUCCUGUCAAGGUAAUUUUCUUUCAUUUGCUUAAUCCAUCACAUGCUUUUCUUUGCUUGAUUCAUGACUUUGCAAUGAUUGUUUCUGAUUAUCUGCUACUCUUAUCAGCUAGCUUUGUAAGACAGCCAAGGAAGAAGUGAACUUCACUGCUUCAUUUUCAGUUCUAUUCUCUCAACACUUUUCAGCCACUAAGUCAGGUAAAAAGAUCUGAAGCUAUGAUUUCCUCUACUGAUUAUCAACAGUUUUAGAUUUUAAGAUAAGAUGAUCAGCAGACAUAAUCUACUCUAGAUUGAAAUUAAUACAGAAAGAGCUACCCAGAAGCAAUAUAAUGUUGAAAUCUCAAACGGUUAACAUUUUAGCUCUUAAUAUUCUGUAAUGAACUGUUGCACACUUGAAUCUAGCAUUUUGUAUACAUCGAGAGCUUAAUUCUGGUGACCAGAAUUUCAUCAUGUUUCUGUCUGCCACCCAUCCAUAGCUCCAUCUACUUAACGCCAUUGCUUGAAACUUGCAUUCAUGUUUUCCUUUUCAUGCUUACACUCACAUAUCAAUACUUCAUAAAAUAUCCAAUUCAUUCACAGAUUUUCAUUCUCUGCUACUGUUUUAUAUGAUUGCAUUGCAGGGACAUAGUAAUGGAGUAUGUAGAGCCUGUUGUCGGCAUUGCAAAUUGUCUCGGAACUCCUGUUUGUAAAUAUUUGCAAUAUCACAGAAAGCUGAACGAUUAUGUGAGAAACUUCAAGAGGAUCAGAGAUGAAUUGAAUGGCAAAAUGCAAGAUAUAGAGCUGCAAUUGAAAGCAGAGCUUCUUCGUCCUUAUUGGUGCUAUAACUGAAACUAACAGAUUCAGUGCAGACUUGUUAAGCAAGUCUCGAGACUUGCUGAGCAAACAAGAGAAUUCGAGCAAGAGAAAGGAAAAAAGGCUAAGAAAAAUGAAGAGAAAAAUUGAUGAACAAACUGAACUUCAUUCAUAAAAUGCAUAAUGGCACAAUGCCAAUACAUAAAACAGGCACUAAGCUUGUCAAAGACAGUAAGUAAUUACCUAAACAUCACCUACCUCCACUAAUGACAUGGAAACUUGAAAUUUUGGCUUGUAAACUUACACAAAGUUGUGUUUACAACUCAUACAUAAGCUAAUUACAUCAGUCAACAAUCUAACUUAGUUAGAAAUGAACUAAGAUUACAUUUCAUUGACUAGGAAUUACAAAAUAAACAAAAUAAGCUUGCAUCAGCAGCUCCUGCAUGACUUGGUCUUCAUGGCCUGCAUGCUGUCGAGUUUGCUGCAUGCUGAACCAACUUCAUCACUCCUCCUUGGUUUGCAUGGAGCAAACACCUAGCUUCUUUCUUAGACAUUCGAACCUUGUGACACUAAGGGCUUUGGUUAAAAUGUCUGCAAGUUGAUCCUCUGAAUUACAGUGGAUCAGCUUUACUUCCUGAGCUUGCUCCAUUUCUCGAACAACAUGCAACUUGAUGCUGAAAUGUUUUGUUCUUCCAUGGAACACUGGAUUUUUAGCAAUUGCUACUGCAGAUUGGUUGUCACAGAAGAUCUCAGUAGCUUCCUCUUGAUGCACAUUCAAGUCAGCCAAUAUUUUCCUUAGCCAUAUGGCUUGGUUGACAGCACUUGCUGUUGCCACAUACUCUGCUUCAGCAGUAGAUUGAGCUACUAGACUUUGCUUCUUUGAGCUCCAGCAAAACAUGGCUGAACCAAGGUUAAAAGCAUACCCUGAGGUGCUUUUCAUGUCAUCUACCGAGCCAGCCCAGUCACUAUCAGUGUAGCCAACCAGCUUCAGAUUUCCUUCUUUGCUGUACUUCAAACCAUAGUUUAAAGUGCCUUUGACAUAUCUCAGCACUCUCUUUGCAGCUUGGAAAUGCUUCUCAUUGCAGCAAUGCAAGAACCUUGAGAGCAAUACAGCAUACAUGAUGUCUAGUCUAGUGGCAGUCAAGUAUAGCAAGCAACCAACUAGACUCCUGUAGGUUGUUUCACAAACUUUCUUAAAAUCACUUUGGCUCGAUAGUUUUUCUCCAACAGCAACAGGUGUUUUAGUUGCCUUGUUGUUUUGCAUGGAGAACUUGGUCAGAAUCUUUGUGGCAAAGCUUCUCUGGCUUAGAAAUAUCCCAUUCUAUACUUGAGACACCUCCAUUCCAAGAAAGUAUGACAUCUCCCCAAGAUCAGACAUUUCAAACACUUCUUACAUCUUGGUCUUGAAAUCAGCCAGCACUACUCGAUCUCCUCCUGUCACCAGAAGAUCAUCAACAUACAGGGACACAAUGAGUUGUAUUUGUGUCCCUUGUUUCUUGACAUACAGUGUUGGCUCACUCUUGCUUCGAUCGAAUCCCAGAUCAGUCAAGUAGCCAUCGAUUCUGCUAUUCCAAGCCCUUGGAGCCUGUUUUAAUCCAUAUAGGGCCUUCUUUAGUUUGUAGACCAUAUGCUCUCUGCCAGCUAUUUCAAACCCUUGUGGUUGUUCAACAUAGAUGUCUUCAUCUAAGAAACCAUUCAGAAAGGCUGAUUUCACAUCAAGUUGAUGGAUCUUCUAUUCGAGCUGUGCUGCUAAGGCAAUCAGCAGUCUGAUGGUGUCGAACCUGGCCACUGGUGCAAAGGUCUCCAGGUAGUCCAAGCCAUACCUCUGACUGAACCCCUUGACAACUAGCCUUGCUUUCAGCUUGUUCAAGGUACCAUCAGCAUUCUGCUUGGCUUUGUACACCCAUUUCACCCCAAUCACCUUCCUUUUGACUGGCCUUUCAACCAAUUCCCAGGUCUGGUUCUUCUCAAUCAUGCUGAUCUCCUCAGCCAUUGCCUGCUUCCACCCUUGCUGAGCCUCAACCUCUUCAAAGUUGCUUGGUUCAGCUAUGGCUACAUGAGCCCUUUCAUAAAUUUAAGCCAAUAGCCUUGUUCCUCUGACUGGUUCAUCAUCAAUAUCCAUUUCAGGGACAUUUUGGUCUGGCUCAGCUUGGUCUGCUGUAAGUUCUUUAGAAACUUCUUCAGGUUCAUGUCUUUCCCAGUUCCAACAUGACCUCUCAUCAAAUGCCACAUCCCUGCUUACUGACACUUUAUUUGUUGAAGGAUCUAAAAUCCUAUAGCCCUUCUUAACAGUGCUAUAGCCCACCAAAACACCAGGUCGAGCCCUUUCAGACAAUUUGUCCCUUUUAACAGCAGGUACAUGUGCAUAACAGAUGCAUCCAAAGACCUUCAGAUGAGCCAGUGAUGGCUUGAAGCUAAACCAGGCCUCGAAUGGGGUCUUUUGAUCCAAAGCCUUGGUUGGAAGUCUAUUUUGAAUGUAUGUUGCAGUGUUAACUGCUUCUGCCCAUAGUGCUUUAGGCAGAUUCUUCUGAAUCAUCAAGCACCUGGCCAUAUCCAUCAAACUCCUAUUCUUCCUUUCACUUACCCCAUUCUGCUGAGGUGUAUAUGUGUUGGUAAGUUGAUGUUUGAUGCCUGCCUUAUCACAGAAGGCUUGGAACUGAGCUGAGGUGUACUGAGUCCCAUUAUCAGACCUUAUGGUCUUCACCUUGCAGCUUGUUUCAGUCUCAGCAGCAGUUUUAAACUUCCAAAACACAGUGGCCACCUCUGAUUUCUGUUUUAAGAAGUAAAUCCAGCAAUAUCUCGAGAAAUCAUCAAUGAACAAUAUGAAAUACCUAUUUCCACUUAAUGACUUAGUCUUCAUAGGGCCACACACAUCAGUAUGCACCAGUUGGAGUUUUUCAGAGGCUCUUCAGGCUUGAUUCGAGGGAAAUGGGAGUCUGGCCUGCUUUCCUAGCUGACAUACUUCACAUACAUCAUCAUGGUCCACUGAGUUGAUGAAGUUUUCAGCCAGGUCUUCUCUGAUCAUUCGGGCCAUCGAUAUGAAGUUGGCAUGUCCCAGUCUUUGAUGCCACAGCUUGGAUUCAUCUGAAGUGGCUGUGUAGGCAAUGUCUGACUUCUUUGUCCAGUCAACCACAAAGCUCUUAUCAGCCAUGGGGACUGCCAUCAGUUUGGAUCCACUUGGAUCACUGAUUUGGCACUGGUGGUCUUUAAACAAAACUGAAUAACCUUUUUCCAGUAACUGAGCUAUGUUGAGCAGGUUUCUGUCAAUUUCAGGCACCAACAGCACAUUUGAAAUCACUUUGGUACCUGUAAGGGUGCAUAUCAGCACAUCACCCUUGCCUUCAGCUUGAAUAAAAUGACCAUUUCCUAUCUUGACUUUAGUUCUGCAGCUUCUGUCUAAAGACUUGAAGAUUGCAGCAUCAGGUGUCAUGUGGUUGGUGCAUCCACUGUCUAGGAGCCAACCAGAUGAGGACCUUUCCUGAGCAGCUGAGCAUGACACAGCAAAAACUUGCUCCCCUUGGUCACUGUCCUCCUUAGCUACUCGAGCCUCAGCUUUCAUCUGUUGAAACUGAUUGUGCCUUGAUUUGGCCUUGCUCUUAUAGACUCUCUCAACAUGACCCUUUUUCUUACAAUGCUGACACACAGCAUCUGGAUUGAACCAGCAUUUUUCUUCUAAAUGACCAGUCUUUCUGUAGUGCUUGCAAGUCUGACCUUCUCUCUUUGCAGCAUCAUUCUUUGGCUUGUCUCUCCAGGCCUUCUUGCCUUUGUAGGCAGCAUUUGUUCUUGCCUGAAAGGCACCUUCUUGGUGCUCCUCCAGUCUGCUUGCUCUCCUCUGCUCUUGAGCAUAUAGAGCAUUGAUCAACUCUGUCAGGGAGAUGGUGGACAGGUCCCUUGAGUCCUCGAGAGAUGAGAUUUUUGCCUCAUACCUCUCAGGCAAAGUUGCUAUAACCUUCUCCACUAUCCUAGCUUCAUUAAACUGCUCUCCAAGGAGCCUGAUGCUGUUAACCACAGCCAUAAUCCUGUCAGAAUAUUGCUUGACAGUUUCUUCUUCCUUCAUCUUCAAAUUCUCGAAAUCUCUCCUCAAGUUUAACAACUGUUGCUGCCUUGUCCUCUCUAUCCCUUGAAACUCUUCCUGCAACUUGUCCCAGGCCUGUUUUGGUGAUUCACAUGCCAUAAUCCUUGUGAAAAUCACAUCAGACACUGAGUUUUGGAUGCAAGACAUAGCCUUGUGCCUCUUGGUCCUUUCAUCAGCAUGCUGCUUGAUCUGAGCCACUGUUGGAUUAGCUCUAAGUGGCUCUGGUUCAACAUCAGAGUUGACCACCUCCCACAGAUCGAAAGCCUGCAGGUAGGUCUUCAUUUUGACCACCCAUAUGUGAUAGCCUUCUCCAUUGAAGACUUGAGGUGCAGCUGGUGAAAAGCUUGAUGAAGCCAUGGAUUUGUGUAACAGAUCCCUUAAGAAAUAGUCUCUAGAUACCAAUUGUUGGUGCUGUAACUGAAACUAACAGAUUCAGUGCAGACUUGUUAAGCAAGUCUCGAGACUUGCUGAGCAAACAAGAGAAUUCGAGCAAGAGAAAGGAAAAAAGGCUAAGAAAAAUGAAGAGAAAAAUUGAUGAACAAACUGAACUUCAUUCAUAAAAUGCAUAAUGGCACAAUGCCAAUACAUAAAACAGGCACUAAGAUUGUCAAAGACAGUAAGUAAUUACCUAAACAUCACCUACCUCCACUAAUGACAUGGAAACUUGAAAUUUUGGCUUGUAAACUUACACAAAGUUGUGUUUACAGCUCAUACAUAAGCUAAUUACAUCAGUCAACAAUCUAACUUAGUUAGAAAUGAACUAAGAUUACAUUUCAUUGACUAGGAAUUACAAAAUAAACAAAAUAAGCUUGCAUCAGCAGCUCCUGCAUGACUUGGUCUUCAUGGCCUGUAUGCUGUCGAGUUUGCUGCAUGCUGAACCAACUUCAUCAGUCCUCUGGGGAAGAUACCGAAGAAGGGAGUUGAAAUUUGGUUGAAAGCUGUGAAAGAGAUGAUUAGGGAAGCAGAAGUUGUUGAAAACAAAGUCAGUAACGGGAGAUAUCUCUGUCGUGCUUGUAACGGGAAGCUGGUUGAUGAAAAGACUCGAGAAAUGAAGGAAUUUCUUGAUAAAGCUCCUAAUGCCUCUGAAUGUCUUGCCAUAAAUGGUCCAGGUGCUGGGUUGCCGCUGCCAACAUCAGAACUAGUUGGAGAGGAAGCUGUCAGAAAUGAGAUUUGGGCAUGCUUGGUACAGGAGAAGGUGAGCAAGAUUGGGGUUUGGGGGAUGGGCGGUGUGGGUAAAACCACUAUCAUGAAGCACAUCCACAAUGAUCUUUUGAAAGAACAAAGAUUCGAAAGGGUAAUCUGGGUUACCAUAUCAAAGGAGUUCAAUGUCAUGAAGGUACAAGAUGAUAUUGCAGAUGCUUUGAAGUUGAAGGAAGAUUGGCCCAGAGAAGGAGACAAGCUCAGACGAGCAGCAAUCUUGUCUGAAAUGCUGAAGAACGCCGAAAAGCAUGUUCUAAUCCUAGAUGAUGUGUGGGAUAAAGUCUCUCUAGAAGAAGUUGGGAUCCCCGAGCCGAGUGGCAGAAAUGGCUGCAAGUUGGUGUUGACAACCCGUUCGGAGCAUGUCUGUAAGUAUAUGGGUUGUAAGGUGAUAAAAGUGAAGCCCCUUUCAGAAGAAGAGGCAUUGAUACUAUUCUUGAAUAAAGUUGGACCUAACAUAGUUCAAAGUCAAACUAUAAUGCCUACUCUGAAGCUUGUUGUCAAGGAAUUUGCGGGUCUACCUCUGACAAUUAUCGUCGUAGCUGGUACAUUGAAAGGAGAAGAGGACUCUCUUAAUUGGAAGAACGCACUCAGGGAAUUGAAAGAGAGAAUAGAAAAAGUGGAAGGAGUGGAAGCUAAGGUAAUCGAGCGCUUGAAAUUUAGCUUCGAUCACUUAAAGGACGAGAAAGUGAAAUAUUGUUUCUUACAUUGCGUAUUAUAUCCCGAAGAUUUUGGAAUUGAAAAGGAUGAAAUAAUUGAGUGCUGGAUUGAGGAGGGAUUCAUAGAUGAUAUGGGUACAAGACAAGAAAUGAAAGACAAGGGCCGUGUUAUUUUGAAGAAGUUAGAAGAGAAUUGCUUGCUGGAAAAUAUUACCAAUAAAAGUGGUCAACCUUGCAUAAAGAUGCAUGAUGCAGUGAGAGAGAUGGCAUUGUCGAUCACAAGAAUGAAUCCUCGACAUAUGAUACAAGUAGGUUUGCAAUUAGAAGAGUUACCAGAAAAGGAGCAACGGAGUUCGGAUAUUGAGAAAGUGUCACUUAUGUAUAACUCCAUAUCAGAAAUUUCCAUAGAUGUGCUGCCCACAAAAUGUCAACUGCUCACAACCUUGUUAUUGCAGGAGAACCCUAUAAAGAAGAUCUCAAUUUCUUUCUUCAUAAACAUGCCUUGUCUUAGUGUUCUCAAUUUGUCCUCUACGAAGAUCAAAAGUUUACCAAAUUCCAUCUCUGAACUAAAGAACCUCACAACAUUGUUGCUUUCUGGCUGUUAUGAAUUAAGAGCUCUGCCAUGUCUUUCGAUGCUUCAAGAAUUGAAGAAGUUGGAUCUAAGUUGGACUAGAAUUGAGGAAGUACCUGAUGGCAUGGAUAUGCUGAUAAAGCUAAGAUAUCUUGAUGUUCGAGUGUUCACUCUGAAAGAGAUAUCCGCUGGACUUUUACCAAAACUCGUUCACCUUCAGCACUUGGGUUUUCAUAAGGACAAUAAAAGAAUCAGUCUAAAAGCAGAGGAGAUGGAACCAUUGAAGAAGUUGGAGUGCUUAACCGGACAUUUCGAAGACAUCAGUGAAUUCAGUAAGUUCAUCUCCUCAAUGCAACAAAGUAGGAAAAAUCUCAUCAAGUACGAUUUACAGGUGGGCUCAUCUUUUAUGCGUGCUACAAGAGAUAAAGCAGUAACAAUUGGAGGAUUCCAUGAUUGGGAAGGUGAGUUAAUUAUGCACCCAAUUGAAAUUCAAGAGUUGAAUAUUUUAAAGUGCCACAAUUUGAGAAGCUUAGUCAAUGAUAAUUCUUCCUUCAAAAAUGCGAUUGGCUUGAGGGUUUGGUGGUGUGAAGGGAUAGAGUGUGUUGUUUCCCUGUCCUCUUUUGCCUCUUCUUCCGCUCAUCCAUUUCAGAGCCUCGAGAUGUUGGACCUUAGUGAGCUACCAAAGUUGAGUGCCCUUAUUAUGAAAGAUGAAGGAAUUGGUUCAGCAACAACAUCAACAUUGGCUCCAUCUGCCGCCUUUUCCCAUCUUAAGGAAAUUACGAUAGACAGCUGCUCAAGUAUGAAGAGGUUGCUUCCACAUUGGUUGCUUCCAAACCUCCAAAACCUGGAAGUAAUAUCAGUGUCACACUGUGAUAAGGUACCAGAAAUAUUGGGAGCACCAACAUCAGAAGUUGAAGAAAAAGGGAGUGAUGCAUUAAUCAAAUUCCAUCUUCCUAAAUUGAGAAAGUUGAAAUUGUGGAGAUUACCAAAUUUGAAGAGCAUUUGCAGCAAAAGUGGAGUGAUGGUUUGCGAUUCUCUCCAAGUUAUCCAAGUUGCUGGAGACUGUUAUAAACUGAAGAGAAUUCCUCCAUUUGUUCCCCUUGUUGGCAAUGGGCAGCCAUUUGCAUAUGCUCCACCUUCUCUUACCAUCUGGUCAUUGAAAAAAUGGUGGGAAAGGUUAGAGUGGGAUGACCAUCCAAACUUUAAAAAUGUUGUUCAACCCCUUUGGAAGCUUUUAAGGUAUGAACCAUUUAUAGCUUAGUUUAUUUUAUAAAUCUAAUUUCUCCAUUUUAAUACCAUUUCAUGUUAUAUUUUAUUUUUGUUUUAAGUUAAGAUGAUGUGGCCUCCAUUGGUGCGAAAGAAGUAGAAGACAGUAGCAGAGCGGAGGAUGGUGCAAAAAAGGUGGGAAUAAAAGGAAUGAUGGAGCAUUGAGGAAUUGAGCAGCCACCAUAAUAAUUGACUCCUUUUCCAUUUUAAUAUCAAAUUAUUUUAUUUGUAUUUUUAUAUAAAACAAUUAAAUUCAAAUAUUAUAUAAAAAAUCUUUAUAUUUGUUAAUUGAAUUGAUGUAAUUCGUUAAUUGGAUUUUAAUAUUAUUUUCAUAAAAUAACAAAUAUUAUUUUGAGAAUAUUUUUAUUUUUUACAUAAAAUUUUAAAAUAUAUAUGUACAUGUUGAAAUUUAAAUCUAAAACAUCACAUUCUUUAAUACCUCAAUUCUAUUAUUUAAAAUUAUAGUACUCUUUGCUUAUAUUGAUCUAUUGGCAUAAUCUUAAUUAGAUAUGUUUGUAUUGAUCGUAAAGUGAAAUUAUUUUUCUUAACAUUUAUAAAUGAUUAAUAUUAAAAUAUUUGAAAUUAAAAAUAAAUUACUAAAAAUAAAUUUUAAAAAAUUUUAGAUUUAAAAUGGAAUUAAAAUAUAAUAUCAAAUUAUUACUACCUUUAUAGUAUAAUUUAUUGGAUAAACUACACUGUAGGUUAUUCUAAAACAACAUUAUUUCUAUUUUGGUCACUUUAUUUUUUUAUCAAUUUAGUCACUCUAAUUAAAAUAAUUGUUCGAAUUAGACAUUGCCAUAACAUUUUUUUUUUUUACUUUUGACUAAAGCUAGAGACUUUUCUAUUAGCUCAAAACAUUUGUUUUUGUUUAUUUGCAGCAUAAGAACCACGUAUGCUUGUCACCACUCAUCCUUUGCUUUCCAUCUCUAUUGCUCCUCACUGCACCAUAAGAACCACGUUUCAUCACAAUGGUGUACAAAGAGUGUUGGUUGUGUUUUGACUAUCGUACAAAUUAGUGUAGAAAUACAACCGGCAAACUUCCGAGUGGAUACUAUUGGGAAACUAUAGGUGAAGUCGGAGCGAAAAACACAAGCUGUCAUGUAAGGACCUACGGCUAUCGUCGAAUCUUGCAUGGCGACUGGGGAUAUGACGGAUUUUUUAGUUCUGACGAGGAUCUUGGAUCCGAUAUCCAGAGUCCAUUUCCACUUAUCGUUAUUGUAUAGCUCAGAUUUUUUGCCAAGAAUCUUCUUGGUUAGAACAUAGUAAUAGCUAAGACAAGGUGAAAGAGAAGCAACAAGGAAGCUAAAAUGGUAACAAGCUUGGGAAAGGAUUGAGUAGAAACUGACUUCUUCAUGGACUCAGUAUGGGAUCCAGGAAGGGAAAAAAUCAAUCUUUAAGAACAAAUGAAAAAAACCAAAGGAAUCCGCUUUCAAAUAAAUUUACCUUUGAGGCUUUGUUAGUGUUUUAAAUUAAUUAUAGAGAAAUUCUUAAUUUUAGUAAAAAGUAAAAAAUGAAUGUCAUAUCAACAAUCAGUUAGUGGGUUAAUACGAUAGUGACCAAUUCAAAUAAUUAGUAUAAUAAAAAAAUUUGCUCUUUUUAACUUUUACAUAUUAUAUCAUCAAUUUGGCAUAAUUUUAAAAAAAUAACCUUCAAAAUUACAAAUGAUCUCUAUUUCAUCAUCAAAUUUUACCUACCUAAUUUAUCGUUAAAUAGUAGCAGAUAUAUUCUGUUUGGACGAUUUUUGGGUUGACAUAUUCUUUUCAGCUGAAUGCUAAUAAUAACAAUAAUAUGAUGAAACACUGGAGUAAUUUCUUAUGUGACGGCCUUCAUUUCACUCACUAGUUGCAUGUUUAUUGUUCAUGCACUGAUUAAACAAGAUUUGAAAAAGGCUAAAAGCAUGAGCAUGCAACACUGAAUUGUCAAAUACUCAAUAGUAUAAGAUUGAAAUGGUGUUUUUUUUGCAGGAACAAUAGGUGAUUUGCAGAAUCAUACACAAAACAGGCGAGAAAAAAAAUGGGGUAGCUGCUGCGCAAGGACAAGGCUAUCUCUUGAAACUUUCUUCAAUAUCUUCAACAGCAAAGCAACAACUUGCUUUCGUCCACUGCUUGAAAUCCCAAUUCCGUUUAGAAUCUCAAGCUCAAGCUUCAGUGCAGGCUGCCCCUUACUCUUUUAUGGAACGUGAAAAAGCCUAAUAAACCCAGUUGUGUAUCCAACUAAUGGGUUCCAACCCUCCUUUUCAGCCACUUCCACCUAGCACACUUGAUUUAUAAAUUUUGAAAUUUAAUUUUUUAAAAUUAUGCAUGUCAAAGUUGAUAGAUAAAUUUAUUGUUAUAUCGAUUUUUAACUGCCACAUCACCCUCCGAUUAAAGUUUUAAGGCACUUAACGAAAAUGGAUAAAAAAAAUAAUCUCAAUUAGUUGAGUGACCAAAUUAAAAAUAAAUUAAUAGUUAGUGAUCAAAAAGAAAAGGGACAAUAAUUAGAUGACCUGUGAUGUAGUUUACCCAUAUCUUUUUAAAAGCGUAUAUAUAUAUUUAUAACUGUCAUCAUUCGUAUAGAAAUGUCACAAAUAUUAAAUCAUUAAAUUGCAUGUUUCAAAAAAAAAUUAUUAAUUCAUUUUUUAAGAUUAGUAAUUAAUAGAAAUAGGAUCAAAAACAUUCAUACUAAACUUAACUAAACAAUCUUAUAAUUUGGUCACUCAUGUUUUCGAAAUUAUUUGUUUUCUUCACUCGACUGUUAAGUGGCACUUAUUUUAAUUGAUACAAUAAUAAUUUUAGUCUUUAAAUUUGACCUUGAUUUUAUACAAAAGUUAUAAAAAAAAUCUCAAAAUUAUGUAUAAAAUAGAAAUUUUCAUAUAAAAAUUCUAGAAAAAUAAAAUCUUGAAUAUGUUGUUACAUAACUAAAUUGUAUAAGAAAUAAAGAAAAUUAGCAUUUAAUAGAAUCUAAUAAUAAAUUAAAAAUAAAAAAAAAAGUUAGAUCAUUACAUGCUUCAUCAAUGUUUCUUGAAACUAAAUUAGUAAUAUUAUUAAGUUGAGUUUCAUGUCCUUAAAGAAUAUCUAGAAUUGAUAUUGCAGAGGCUUAUGAAAUUGACCUUGAUGCCAUUUUUUUUAACCAAAAGAUUUUAUGUUUCAAACUCAAUUCAAUUUUUCAUUACAUUUAAAUUAUUUUUUGAAACUGAAAUUGUAAAAAGAAAUCAUAUUCAGAAUUUUAUUUUUUCUUGUAAGGUAAAAUUAUGUCAAGAAACAGAGGAGGUAAAAAACAUAGAACAAAUAAAUCAGCUUAAUGUUUGUUUUCUAAGUUUGUUUUUAAAGAACGAGUAUUGGAUAUUUCAAUAUACAUAAUAUAGAGAAUUUCUGUAGGGUUUAAAAACAAUUAUCCCUCAUUUUCUCUCACUUUAUUUAUUUUUGAAAAUUUUAUCAACUUUAUUUAAUUUUUAAUUUUAUAAUGUACUAAAAUUUUAAAAAUAAUUUAUUUUUUACCAUUUUAUAUAUUAUCAAGAUUAAAUCGAGUAAAAAUAUAAAACUUAAAAAAAAAGACUAAAAUAACAAUUAUAUUAAUCAAAAGAAUACCACUUAACAAUGGAGUAUGUAAGAAAUUGUCCAAGAGUUAAAUCCAAAAUGUAAUAUCAACAACACAAGUUAUUUACUACAACACCAAUAACUAUAUAUAUUUUUUUAUAACUAAUACAAGUCAUUUACUAGUAUAUUAGACAUUCUUAUACCCUGCUUUCCCAUACAUUCCCAUGAUGAUGAUGAUGAUGAUGAUGAUGAUGAUGAUGUUACAAUUGAGCACCAAGAUGACUGCAAAACUUGUUAGUAUUGUCCAGGAUGAAUCGAAAGGACAUUUCCAUGGAUUUUAGACCUCAUAUCUAUCUUUCAAAUUUUGAGAGCAGAUUCAAGGUUUUAUCAAGUAGAAAUGUCAGUAUCAAAUACCCAAGAUGCCAACUUAUAAUGGCAGACAGCAAAGCAAAAAGCUAAAAGAAAAUAUGGGAUUUCUUACUAAAAAUCCUGCCUUUCUGGAACCCACCACAGAAGUGAAUGCCUCAUUAUUUUGCCCCUUUUUAUCUUCACUUUCUUCCUUGUUUUGCUAUUGUACCCACAACAUUCUUUCUUCUUCACUGUUUUUAUGAAGCAUCCAGUCAAGGUAAUUUUCUUUCAUUUGCUUAAUCCAUGACAUGCUUUUCAUUCCUUAGUUCAUGACUAUGCAAUGAUUGUUUUUUAUUAUCUGCUUCAGUUAUAGCAGUUUGCUUUGUAAGAUAGUCAAGGGAGUGAACUUCACUGCUUCAUUUUCAGUUCUAAUCUCUCAACACUUUUCAACCAGUAGGUCAGGCAAUUUAUGCUUCCCAUUCUUUGAUCCUUAAAUAUGCAAUUCAGCUCUUUUGAAAAUUUGUUUGCUUAUUAUCAACUCAUGACAUGAUUUCCUUUGCUUUUACAUAACAAGAAAGAUGAAUAUUUGUAAUAAGAUCUGAAGCUAUGAUUUCCUCUGCUGAAUAUCAACAGUUUUAGAUUUCAAGACUGGAUGAUCAGCAGACAUAAUCUACUAUAGUUAGAAAUUAAUACCAAAAGAGCUACCCAGAAGCAAUAUAAUGUUGAAAUCCCAAACUGUUGAACAUUUUACCUCUUAAUAUUCUGUUGCACACUUGAAUCUAACAUUUUCUAUACAUUGAGAGGUUAAUUCUGGAUAUACAAAUUUCAUCAUGUUUCUGUCUGCCACCAUCCAUAGCUCCAUCUAAUAAACGCCAUUGCUUGAAACUUGCAUUCAUGCUUACACUGACAUAUCAAAAAGCCAAUACAUUCACAGAUUUUCAUUAUCUGCUACUGUUAUAUAUGAUUGCGUUGCAGGGACAUAGCAAUGGAGUACGUAGAGCCCGUUGUCGGCAUUGCAAAUUGUCUUGGAACUCUUGCCUGUAAAUACUUGCAAUAUCACAGAAAGCUCAAUGAUUAUGUGAGAAACUUCAAGAGGAUGAGAGAUGAGUUGAAUUGCAAAAUGGAAGAUAUAGAGCUGCAAUUGAAAGCAGAGCUUCUUCGUCCUCUGGGGAAGAUACCGAAGAAGGGAGUUGAAAUUUGGUUGAAAGCUGUGAAAGAGAUGAUUAGGGAAGCAGAAGUUGUUGAAAACAAAGUCAGUAACGGGAGAUAUCUCUGUCGUGCUUGCAACGGGAAGCUGGUUGAUGAAAAGACUCGAGAAAUGAAGGAAUUUCUUGAUAAAGCUCCUAAUGCCUCUGAAUGUCUUGCCAUAAAUGGUCCAGGUGCUGGGUUGCCGCUGCCAACAUCAGAACUAGUUGGAGAGGAAGCUGUCAGAAAUGAGAUUUGGGCAUGCUUGGUACAGGAGAAGGUGAGCAAGAUUGGGGUUUGGGGGAUGGGCGGUGUGGGUAAAACCACUAUCAUGAAGCACAUCCACAAUGAUCUUUUGAAAGAACAAAGAUUCGAAAGGGUAAUCUGGGUUACCAUAUCAAAGGAGUUCAAUGUCAUGAAGGUACAAGAUGAUAUUGCAGAUGCUUUGAAGUUGAAGGAAGAUUGGCCCAGAGAAGGAGACAAGCUCAGACGAGCAGCAAUCUUGUCUGAAAUGCUGAAGAACGCCGAAAAGCAUGUUCUAAUCCUAGAUGAUGUGUGGGAUAAAGUCUCUCUAGAAGAAGUUGGGAUCCCCGAGCCGAGUGGCAGCAAUGGCUGCAAGUUGGUGUUGACAACCCGUUCGGAGCAUGUCUGUAAGUAUAUGGGUUGUAAGGUGAUAAAAGUGAAGCCCCUUUCAGAAGAAGAGGCAUUGAUACUAUUCUUGAAUAAAGUUGGACCUAACAUAGUUCAAAGUCAAACUAUAAUGCCUACUCUGAAGCUUGUUGUCAAGGAAUUUGCGGGUCUACCUCUGACAAUUAUCGUCGUAGCUGGUACAUUGAAAGGAGAAGAGGACCCUCUUAAUUGGAAGAACGCACUCAGGGAAUUGAAAGAGAGAAUAGAAAAAGUGGAAGGAGUGGAAGCUAAGGUAAUCGAGCGCUUGAAAUUUAGCUUCGAUCACUUAAAGGACGAGAAAGUGAAAUAUUGUUUCUUACAUUGCGCAUUAUAUCCCGAAGAUUUUGGAAUUGAAAAGGAUGAAAUAAUUGAGUGCUGGAUUGAGGAGGGAUUCAUAGAUGAUAUGGGUACAAGACAAGAAAUGAAAGACAAGGGCCGUGUUAUUUUGAAGAAGUUAGCAGAGAAUUGCUUGCUGGAAAAUAUUACCAAUAAAAGUGGUCAACCUUGCAUAAAGAUGCAUGAUGCAGUGAGAGAGAUGGCAUUGUCGAUCACAAGAAUGAAUCCUCGACAUAUGAUACAAGCAGGUUUGCAAUUAGAAGAGUUACCAGAAAAGGAGCAAUGGAGUCCGGAUAUUGAGAAAGUGUCACUUAUGUAUAACUCCAUAUCAGAAAUUUCCAUAGAUGUGCUGCCCACAAAAUGUCAACUUCUCACAACCUUGUUAUUGCAGCAUAACCCUAUAAAGAAGAUCUCAAUUUCUUUAUUCACAAACAUGCCUUGUCUUAGUGUUCUCAAUUUGUCCUCUACGAAGAUCAAAAGUUUACCAAAUUCCAUCUCUGAACUAAAGAACCUCACAACAUUGUUGAAAUUUAUAAUAUUUUAUUUUAUUGAUAAAUGAAUAAAUUUCUCUAAUUAAGUAAUUUAUUAUAUUCUUUCUCAAAUAGAUAAAUGAAAACAACAAGGAGAAACAAGUAUAAGGGAUUUUUUUUAUUGAAGUGAUAAAAAUAGGAAUGAUAGCGAGUCAGGUAUAUGCAUAUUUUUGAAUGAUUUCAAUUUAAAUUCACAAAUUUAUUUAAGUGUUUAAAUGUUAUUCAUGAAUUAUUUGAGUAUUACUAUUCAAAUUCAAAUUUAAAUUAAAUAAUAUUAUCCAUCAAAUAUUUCAAUCCUAAAAAAAACCUAAAUUUAAAUUUUUAAUUUUUUUGUGGAUAUUUUCAAAUCCACAAAAACCUGAAUUUGAAUAUGGUAAAAUUAUUUUAAUAUAUAUAAUCACAAUUGUAAGAAUUUAGUAACUACUAGAUUUAUAUAUCUGAAAUUACAUUUGUUAUCUGAAUAAGAAAUGCAGAUUUAAAUAAUGGAUAUUCAAGGUAUCUUAUACCCACAUACACUUCGAAUUCAUAUAGCAUAUAGCAAUUUUAAAAUCUGAAUCUAACUAUUAUUCCAACCUAAAAAAAAAAAGGUCUUAGAUCAUCAGAAUUCGUAAUCAGAAUUUUCAUCUUUAACUAAAAUAUUCUUUAUUCCAUUAAAUAUGUAAGUGUCCACCGAGCUUUGUUCUUUAUUGUAAUAUUUAUUGAUUUUUUUCUAUUUCUUCAAGGAUUAUUGUUUUAUCGUGCUUUUAAUGUGGUGUUUUAUUAAUUUUUUUAGAUUUUGUUAGUUAAUAAUUUUUAUUUAUGUUGAAAAAUAAUGAAAAAAUAGUUGAUAUAUAUUGUUCGGAACCAAGAUAACUUGGUUGAAGAAAUGAAAGUAGGAGUGAAAGUGCAUUAUGAAGAAGCAUACUAUCUUUUACAAAUUUAUUAUCUCUUUUACAAUUAUAUACACAAACCAAUCAUAUACCGAAACCAAAAACCCUAAACAAAUUUAUUAUUAUCUCUUUUACAAUUAUAUAAGAACAUAUUUAAAAUAUAAAUUAAAAAAACUAAUUAAUCUAAACCCAAUACCCUAGCCCGACCCCUAAACCCUAGCUAAACCCUAAAUCCCUAAAUCCCUAACUCCUAACUCCUAACUCCCAACAUCUAACCCCGGCCCUAACCCCUAAACAUUAAAUCUCAGCCCUUAAACCAUAAUCCCUAAAUCUCUCUAUAUAUAUACUCCUAAUCAAUUAUAAUAACCUUAAAAUAGUAAUCCCUAAACUGACCUAAAAUAUUAAAUUAAUAAUUAUAUACCCUAAACCUAAAACCCUAAAUCAACUAUAGUGAUACUUAAUUCAAUAUUUUAAAUUUAAAUUAAUACUAUCUCUUUUACGAUUAUAUAAGAAUUUUUUUAAUAUAUAAAUUAAAAAAUAAUUAGUAAUCAUGUAACCAAAAAACUUUAAAAUUAUUUUAAAUUAUUUUAAAUAAUAGUAUUUUAAUUUGUCCAUGUGUUUUAUUUCAAAUUAAUUCUACGUGUUCUUUUUUUUUCUGAAGAUUUUAAAUAUUCAAUUAGAAAUAAGUUGAAUUUUAUUUAAUUAAUAUAAAUAAUUAACCAAUUAAGGUAAAAUGUUUUUUACGGCGCUUUCACAAAAACGUCGCUAAAAAUACGAGCAUUAGCGGCGCUUUUUCAAAUUGACCCUUAUUUUAUAUAAAAAUUAUAAAAAAAAACUCAAAAUCAUUUAUAAAAUAGAAAAAUGUAUAUAAAAUUCUAGAAAAAUAAAAUAUUGAAUAUGUUGUUGAAGAACAAAAUUGUAUAAGAAAUAAAGAAAAAUAUCAUUCAAUAGAAUCCAAUAACAAACUUGGCACAUAACAAAAUAAAAAAGUUAGAUCAUUACAUACUUCCUCAACGUGUAUCGAAACCAAAUUAGUAGUAUUAUCUAGUUGAGUUUCAUGCUCUUGAAGAACAUUUAGAACCGGUAUUACAGAGGCUUAUGAAAUCGACCCGGAAGUCAUUUUUUUUAGUCAAAAGAUUACAAAAUAUACCACAAAAUUUUUUUCAAACUCAAUUCAAGAUUUAAUUAUAUUUAAAUUAUUUUCCAUAACCCAAAUUGUAAAAACAAAUUAUGUUUCUUCUUCCAUGGUCGAGUUGGGCUUGGACAAGGUUUUUAUGUCUUGAGCCGUUACAACUUGAAUUUAAUUUAAAUAAUAAAAUUUAUUUUUAAAAUUCAAAUUUAAUUAAAAAUAUAAAAAUGUUUUUUAAUAUUUUAUUAUUUUCUAAACUCGCAAAUAGACUUUUUGGAUUGACCAAGCUAGGCUAAAAAUGGGUUAGGCUUGAAAAAAUAUUAGAUUAUUUAUAAGAGUAUAUCAAGGAGUCUAAUAAUUACAUUUUUUUUUUGGAAGGUCUUAAUAACACUAGAAAUCUUAUCACACGCGUAUGCAUGUGGAAAUCACGUAUUUAUAACAUAGACUAUGUUUAAAAAUAACAUACAAUGAAUACUGAAAAGUAUAAUUUGGAACUAAUUAAUAAUAACACGUGAAAUAUGUAUGAUAUUAAAAUAAAAUUAGAUUAAAUUGAGAGUAAAACAAAAUCUAAACACAAAAACACAUCAUAUUAAGAAUACUAAAUAAAUACAAAUGUUUAUCAUUGUUUUGUCUUCAAUCCCGAGUUGGUGAUGCUAAAUCAAUAACAUUAUUUACAUACACAAAUAUAUAAAAACCUAGAACACAAAUGUUUAUCUGUUAUAAAGCAUGUAUGACAUGGACAUUUCGACAUUUGUUAAUUCUGCAUGUGCAUUAGGGUGAGAUUUGUGUUUAUGAAGUGUGGGAGUUUAAUUCAUUUGCCAUAUUUAGUGGCUCAACUACACGUAUUUCUGCAUUUAGCGAUGAAUCACCUAAUGAUCUGGCAGUUAGACUGCGAAUAUUUUGAAAAGUUUCAUAUUGUAACUAAGUGGUGUGUAGGGUUUGAUAGGUAUUUAAUACCCUAUAUGGUGUGUAGGAAUGGUCGAAGAUGGUGUGUAACGGAUCGGAUUAAGAUUGUAAUCUACACAUGAUAUGUUCUGAUUCUGUUUCUGUAUAUAUGAUAUAUGUCUAAUUGACUUCCGAAAGCAUGUUUGAAAAUUAUAUCCAAUAUUUUUACUCUUAUAAGUUACACAUUGAGUUUGUAAGCUCACUCUCAAUUUCUCUUAUUCUUAGGUAAUCCUUAGACUUAUGUGGGUCAGUGCAACUGGAGUUCGAUUAAUUAUCUACUUGUUAUAUUUGUUAUUUUAAUAUGGUUUAUUCUGUUUUGGUUUUGGACUGUUUUUAAGUUUAGGUUUAGUUUCGUUUUAUUUAUUUAUUUAAACAUUUUUGGUUGGUUUAAAUUUGAUCUACAAAAUGUUAAAUUAUAUAGCAACAAAUCGUGUUUUCAAAAUCGGAUUCAACUAAGAAUUUUCGCUGCAAACGUAAGUGUUUUAUGAGUAAAUAAUCAACAAAUUUAUCGAAAUGGUUAAGAAGGAUAUUUUCCUCAAAUAAACUCAAAUUUUACUUAAUAAGAGCUAGCAUUGUUUUAUAAGUCGACAGAUUCUGGGUUUUUAAAUAAAUUGUAGUAAUAUCUCCAGAUUUGGCCAUAACAUCUAGGCUAGGUUUGGGGUGUUACAGAGCCUAUAAGCUCACCCAAUGUUUCUAACUUCUCAAUUAAUCAACAUAUUUAGGACCAAACGACGUGCAAGAGAUCAGAUUGAGUUCUCAAUUAUUUAAAUAUGAUGGUUCAUGUUUUUAAAUUAUUCUGGACAUUCUGAUUUUUUUUGGGGGGGGGUUGUAAAUCUUUUUUUGGAUUUUGCUUUGCUUAGUUGGAUUUAGUAAUUAUUACUUAAAACUACAAGUUUUGUGUUUUACAAAUUAAGUCAUGGUUUUCAAAUUUUAGUACUCUAAAAUUUCCACUACAAAAUAAAGUAAUCACUUAAAUGUUUUUCUAUAACAAAAUAAAUAGUUUUAAUGAUUGUUUUCUUAAAAACUGAAAAGCGAUUUUCCAGAAUUAAUAUUGUCAAAGCACACAAUUUGAAAUUUAUUUUCUAGGUUUUUAAACAAGUUAAUGUAAUUCCUCCAGAUUCGACCAUAACGUAUAAACCAAGUUUGUGGUGUUACAAUUUUUGUCCUCAAUUUAUAUAUUUUUUUAUCAAUUUGACCCUGAUUUUAUAUAAAAAAAUUAAAAUCAUUUAUAAAAUAGAAAAUGUGUAUAAAAUUCUAGAAAAAUAAAAUCUUGAAUAUGUUGUUGAAGAACUAAAAUGUAUGAGAAAUAAAGAAAAGUAUCAUUCAAUAGAAUCCAAUAACAAAUUAGAAACAAAACGAAAUAAAAAAGUUAAGUUUCAUGCUCUUGAAGAGCAUUUAGGACUGAUAUUAUAGAGACUUAUAAAAUCGACUCGACUGUCAUUUUUUUGGUCAAAAGAUUACAAAAUAUACCACAAAAUUUUUUUUCAAACUCAGUUCAAAUUUUAAUUACAUUUAAAUUAUUUUUCAAAACCCAAAUUGUAAAAACAAAAUUUGUUUCUUUUUCCAUGUUGAGUUGAGCUUAGACAAGGUUUUUAUGUCACGAGCUGUUCCAACUCCAAUUCAAUUUAAAUAAUAAAAAAUAUUUUUAAAUUUUAAAUUUAAUUAAGAGUAUAAAAAUAUUUUUUAACAUUUUUUUUUGAGCUCUUAAAAGGUUGACUGAGCUCGGCUAAAAAUGGGUUUUGCUUGAAAAAAAUUUAGAUUAUUUUUAAGAGUAUAUCAAGGAGUCUAAUAAUUAAAAUUUUUUUAAAAGGUUUUAAUAACACUAGAAAUCUUAUCACACGCAUAUUUCUUACUUUGCAAAUAAAAUAGUAUUUUUGGUAAUUUUCUUAUUGAGUUGGGACCCGAUUGAUGAGUGACACCAACUCAGUAAAAUGUUUAAUACAUAGUAUAGGUAAAACAAUUCUAAACUAAAAUUUUUAAAAGAAUUUAGGGUAAAAUUCAACUAUGGUUAAGUUUUCAUUUUGGUCACUUAAUUAAAAAAUGUUACAAUUUGAUCACUAAUAUUUUCAAAAUUAUUUUCUUUUUGUCACCCAACUGUUAAGUGGCACUUGUUUUAGUUGGUAUAAUAAUAAUUUUAGUCAUCAGUUUUUAUAUUUUCUAUCAAUUUGACUCUGAUUGUGUAUAAAAAAUUAUUAAAAAACUCAAAAUAUUUAUAAAAUAGAAAAAUGUAGAUAAGAUUUCUAGAAAAAUAAAAUCUUGAAGUUGUUGAAUAACUAAACUGUAUGAAAAAUAAAGAAAAUUAUCAUUUAAUAAAAUCCAAUAAUAAAUUAAAAACAAAACAAAGUUACAUUUUGCACCUCAUGCUUGUUCAUAAUAGCUAAUAUUCACAUAGUUUUUCAAUUCAGCCCAUUUUAGGGAUGAAUUCACUAAAUUCCAGUUAUAGCUAAACAUAUAGAUGAAAUCAAGUACAAUUUACAGAUAAUAUAAAAAAAUAAUACAUUAAAGUGAAAAAAAUUAAUUUAAAGAAAAUAAAUGUAAUUAUUUUUAAAAAAAUUAACUUAGUAGAAAAACUUCUUAGUAAACAAACAUAUGAAAGGUUGAAAACUUUUGAAAAAAAAAUAUUGAAACAAAGGUUAAUGGUAAAGAAAAACUCAAAAAUAGAAUUAGGGCAAUUUUGACAAAAUAAACAAAAUUGGUGACCAAAUUUAUCAUUAAACCUAAUUAUUAUUAUUAGUUAAUGCCAAUUAUAAUGGGUGACGGCAAAGAAAAAAAGUAAAAAAAGAUGGAUUUCUUACUCAUAUCCACAACAUUCGUCUUUUUAUACAUGUAAUUAUUAAUUAUUUUCUGUUUCUUCUUCUUCUUCACAUACUUUCCCAUUAAUUCCUAUCACAAUUUUGCUUAUUUCUAUUUCCACCUUCUUCUUCACUCUUUUUAUUUUCUUUUCAUCUCCAAGGUCUAUCACUAAUUUUCAAGCAUCCAGUCAAGGUAAUUUUCUUUCAUUUGCUUUAUUCAUGACUAUACAAUGAUUGUUUUUUAUUAUCAGCUACUGUUAUAGCAGCUAGCUUUGUAAGAUAGUCAAGGUAAUAAGAUCUGCAGCAAUGGUUUCCUCUAGUGAUUAUCAACAGUUUUAGAUUUUAAGACAGGAUGAUCAGCAGACAUAAUCUACUAUAGAUACAAAUUAAUACGAAAAGAGCUAUGCUUUGUAAGAUAGUCAAGGUAAUAAGAUCUGAAGCAAUGAUUUCCUCUACUGAUUAUAGAUUUUAAGACAGGAUGAUCAGCAGACAUAGUCUACUAUAGAUACAAAUUAGCACGAAAAGAGCUACCCAGAAGCAAUAUAAUGUUGAAAUCUCAUGCUGUUGAACAUUUUACCUCCUAAUAUUCUGUAGUGAACUCUUGUACACUUGAAUUUAGCAUGUUAUAUAGUUUGAGGGGUUGAUUCUGGAUAUACAAUGGUGACCAGAAUUUCAUCAUGUUUCUGUCUGCCACCCAUCCAUAGCUCCAUCUAAUAGACGCCAUUGCUUGAAACUUGCAUUCAUGUUUUCCUUUUCCAGCUUACACCGACAUAUCAAUACUUCAUAAAAUAUCCAAUUCAUUCACAGAUUUUCAUUCUCUGCUACUGUUAUAUAUGAUUGCAUUACAGGGACAUAGCAAUGGAGUACGUAGAGCCUGUUGUCGGCAUUGCAAAUUGUCUCGGAACUCCUGUUUGUAAAUAUUUGCAAUAUCACAGAAAGCUGAACGAUUAUGUGAGAAACUUCAAGAGGAUCAGAGAUGAAUUGAAUUGCAAAAUGGAAGAUAUAGAGCUGCAAUUGAAAGCAGAGCUUCUUCGUCCUCUGGGGAAGAUACCGAAGAAAGGAGUUGAAAAUUGGUUCAAAGCUGUGAAAGAGAUGAUUAGGGAAGCACAAGUUGUUGAAAACAAAGUCAGUAACGGGAGAUAUCUCUGUCGUGCUUGCAACGGGAAGCUAGUUGAUGAAAAGACUCGAGAAAUGAAGGAAUUUCUUGAUAAUGCUCCUAAUGCCUCUGAAGGUCUUGCCAUGGAUGGUCCAAGUGCUGGGUUGCCGCUGCCAACAUUAGAACUAGUUGGAGAAGAAGCUGCCAGAAAUGAGAUUUGGGCAUGUUUGAUGCAGGAGGAGGUGAGCAAGAUUGGGGUUUGGGGGAUGGGCGGUGUGGGUAAAACCACUAUCAUGAAGCACAUCCACAAUGAUCUUUUGAAAGAACAAAGAUUCGAAAGGGUAAUCUGGGUUACCAUAUCAAAGGAGUUCAAUGUCAUGAAGGUACAAGAUGAUAUUGCAGAUGCUUUGAAGUUGAAGGAAGAUUGGCCCAGAAAAGGAGACAAGCUCAGACGAGCAGCAAUCUUGUCAGAAAUGCUGAAGAACGCAGGAAAGCAUGUUCUAAUCCUAGAUGAUGUGUGGGAUAAAGUCUCUCUAGAGGAAGUUGGGAUCCCUGAGCCGAGUGGCAGCAAUGGCUGCAAGUUGGUGUUGACAACCCGUUCAGAGCAUGUCUGUAAGUAUAUGGGUUGUAAGGUGAUAACAGUGAAGCCCCUUUCAGAAGAAGAGGCAUUUAUACUAUUCUUGAAUAAAGUUGGACCUAACAUAGUUCAAAGUCCAACUAUAAUGCCUACUUUGAAGCUUGUUGUCAAGGAAUGUGCGGGUCUACCUCUUACAAUUGUCGUGGUAGCCGGUACCAUGAAAGGAGAAGAUAACCCUCUUAUUUGGAAAAAUUCACUCAGGGAAUUAAAAGAGAGAAUAGGGAAAGUGGAAGGAGUGGAAGCUGAGGUAAUCGAGCGCUUGAAAUUUAGCUUCGAUCCCUUAAAGGACGAGAAAGUGAAAUAUUGUUUCUUACAUUGCGCAUUAUAUCAGAUUGUGGAAUUGAAAAGGAUGAACUAAUUGAGUGCUGGAUUGAGGAGGGAUUCAUAGAUGAUAUGGGUACAAGACAAGAAAUGAAGGACAAGGGUCAAGUUAUUUUGAAGAAGUUGGAAGAUAAUUGCUUGUUGGAAAAUUCCUCGAGUGAAGAAAUGACAAUUCAUGAUGCAGUGAGAGACAUGGCAUUGUCGAUCACAGGAAUGAAUCCUCGAUAUAUGAUACAAGCAGGUUUGCAAUUAGAAGAGUUACCAGAAAAGGAGCAAUGGAGUCCAGAUAUUGAGAAAGUGUCACUUAUGUACAACUCCAUAUCAGAAAUUUCCAUAGAUGUGCUGCCCACAAAAUGUCAACUGCUCACAACCUUGUUAUUGCAGCAUAACCCUAUAAGGAAGAUCCCAUAUUCUUUCUUCAUAAACAUGCCUUGUCUUUGUGUUCUCAAUUUGUCCUAUACGAUGAUCAAAAGUUUACCAAAUUCCAUCUCUGAACUAAAGAACCUCACAACAUUGUUGCUUUGUGGUUGUUCUAAAUUAAGAGAUCUACCAUGUGUUUCGAUGCUUCAAGAAUUGAAGAAGAUGGAUCUUUCUGGAACCAAAAUUGAGGAAGUCCCUGAAGGAAUGGAUAUGCUGAUAAAGCUAAGAUAUCUUGAUCUUGAAGUGCGCACUCUGAAAGAGAUAAGCGCUGGACUUUUACCAAAACUCGUUCACCUUCAGCACUUGAGUUUUGAUGUAGACAAUGAAAAAACAAGUCUAAAAGCAGAGGAGAUGGAACCAUGGAAGAAGUUGGAGUGCUUAACCAGACGUUUCGAAGACAUCAGUGAAUUCAAUAAGUUCAUCUCCUCAAUGCAACAAAGUAAGAAAAAUCUCAUCAAGUACAAUUUACAGUUGGGCUUAUCUAUUUUGCGUCGUACAAGAGGUAAGACAGUAACAAUUGGAGGAGUCCAGAAUUGGGAAGGUGAGUUAAUUUUGCACCCAAUUGAAAUUCAAGAUUUGACUAUUUUAAAGUGCGACUAUUUGAGAAGCUUAGUCAAUGAUAAUUCUUCCUUCAAAAAUGCGAUUGACUUGAGGGUUUGUAGGAUUUGGGGGUGUAGAGGGAUAGAGUGUGUUGUUUCCCUGUCCUCUUUUGCCUCUUCUUCCGCUCAUCCAUUUCAGAGCCUCGAGAUUUUGGGUCUUAUUAAUCUGCCAAAGUUGAGUGCCCUUAUUAUGGAAGAUGAAGGAAUUGGUUCAGCAACAACAUCAACAUUGGCUCCGUCUGCGCCCUUUUCCCAUCUCAAGGUAAUUUUUAUAACCAAAUGCUCAAGUAUGAAGACGUUGCUUCCACAUUGGUUGCUUCCAAACCUCCAAAACCUGGAACAAAUUUGGGUGUCAGAUUGUGAUGAGAUAGUAGAAAUAUUGGGAGCACCAACAUCAGAAGUUGAAGAAAAAGGGAGUGAUGCAUUAAUCAAAUUCCAUCUUCCCAAAUUGAGAAAGUUGGAAUUGGGGAGAUUACCAAAUUUGAAGAGCAUUUGCAGCAAAAGUGGAGUGAUGGUUUGUGAUUCUCUCCAACUUAUUCAUAUUACUAGAUGUGGUAAACUGAAGAGAAUUCCUCCAUUUGUUCCCCUUGUUGGCAAUGGGCAGCCAUUUGCAUAUGCUCCACCUUCUCUUACCAUCAGGUCAAGCACAGAAUGGUGGGAAUCGUUGGAGUGGGAUGAAGAUCCAAACUUUAAAAAUGUUCUUCAACCCCUUUGGAAGGAUGAAAGGUAUGAACCAUUUAUAGUUUAGAGAAAGAUGAAAGGGUCGGUGGGAAAGGAGGGGGGAGGAUAGUGCAAAAGAGAGGAGAAAAGGAAUGAAGGAAGGAAGAGGUUAAGAGGCUCCACAUUGUAAACAUAGUCCCUCUCUUACCAUUCCUUGUAUUCUCUUUUUCUUAUAAUGUAAAAGCUGAAGAGGUAAAAAACAAAUAAAUUUGCUUCAUAUUUUUUCUAUGUUUGUUUUGAAAGAAAGAGAAAUAUGGUAGGGUUUAUAAAUAAAAUAUAAUUUAAAUAUCAAUUGAUAAAUUAAGUGUAUUCAAAAUAAUGGUAUUUUAGAUAGCAAAGGUAUUGAAAAUUUAAAGUGAUAAAUUACCUUUUUAUCAUUAUAAAUAAAUACCAUAAUUUCUUUUUAAAUAAAAUAAAAAAUAUCAUUAUUUCUUCUUUCAACAAUCAUUCUAUUCUAAAAAUUAAUUUAUUUAUAAUUUUUUUAAUUAAAUAAACAAAAUAAAAAUUUACUCAUAAUUGAGUGAUUAAUGACAUCAUUUAUAGUAAAAAUUACUUUUUAAUUUUAUCAGUUUUAUUUAUACUUUUGUUUAAUGCAACAUACAUAUACAAAUUAUAUUCACUAUGGAUGAAUAAUUAUAUCACUUAUUCUCAUUGAAUAAAACAAAACAUAGCUAACAACCAUUGUUAAGUACCCGUUUCAGCUUUUAUUAAUUCUCAAUUCUUUUUUUUGAAGAUAACCGAAUCCAUAAUUUCAACAUUAGAAAUCUUGUAUUUCAAAUUAAAAAAUUUUCAAAAAGGCUAAAUUACAACUAUAUGCUGAAAAAAAAUUGAAAAUUUAUGUUGUUUUCUUCAAAAUUUAUCAAUUUAUAUUGUUUUUUAUAAAUAGAAAAGAAAAUGUGUCUUAUAGGACGUGUUUUCUCUGAUCUUCCAGAGAAAACAUGAGACGCGUUUUAUUCUCUUUCCUAAAAAGUGCUCUGUAGGAUGCAUUUUCAGAUAGUUUAAAAUUGUUUUUUUUCUUACAGUUUGAAACUAGAAAUUUAUAGGUUUAGCUUUUCCCGUGUUCAAGAUAAACAUUGUUAUAGUUUUAAUGUAUGUAUGAAUUUAUAGUAGUUUAAAAAUGUAAUUAAAUCAGUCAUAAUUUAGGGGAGGUUGAUGCAAUUAACUCAUUUCUAAUGGUGCUAAUAAUUAAGUCUGCUAUAGGACAAAGUGAAAAAGUGGAAAGCAGAGUUAAAAUAUGACCCAAAGACUCACCGUUUUCUAAGUCGUCUCUUAUCAUAAUUGCAUAAUAAAUGGAUAGCAGUACCAACAUUUCUAAACCAAGAAAACCCAAUUGUCUUAAGAGUUCAUAUUUGUGAAGGUUUCUUAACAUUUUAGUGCAACCUUGAUUUUUAUUUUUAUUUAUUUCCUUUCCCUUAAAAAGAAGAAAAGACCUUCAAGUUUUUUUUCUUUUUUCUUCUUCCGUUUUGCUUACUUUCUUUUGCUCCCAAAAACCAAAAAAUAUCCCUUCAAAUCCCAUUUGAUGGUUUUGAAGUAGCAACGAUCUUCUCAGCACCUAGUCUAGUUUGAUUUUGAAGUUCCCAAGUGAGGUCAAUGUAUUUAUUUAUCCUUAAUUUCUUUAUUUUUGGUUUUUUAUAUAUAAAUUUGUCAUAUAUUUCUUCAUCUAAUAUUAUGUUUUUAUGUUUUUCUUGAACUAAAUCAGAGAAAAAUAGACUGUUUGGAUUUGCUUUUUUUUUUUUUCACACUCAAAUUCUUGGAAUCAUUACUUCAUUUUGAAGGGGUAAGUGGGUAUGUUUCUUAUAUUUUCCAUCAUUACAUGCAUAAUAUUAAUUGGAUGAUGAAAAAAUUGAAAAUAUCGAUGAUUAAAUUUCAUUUAUAAUUGAGUCACUAUCGUUAAAAUUAUUUUUUAAUUUUUUUAUAAAUUUACUCUUUGUAUUAAUAAUUUGCACUUUAAAGAUAAAUUUCAUUUACAUAUUUUGUUAGUUAAAAACCAGUAAAUUGACUCUUUAUAUUUAUAGGUUUGCACUUUAAAGAUAAAGAGAUGCUUGCAAUUAAAAGAUCUAAUUCAAGAUCCACAAAUGUCAUACAUAAGCCUCCAAAGUUUAAGGGAAGUAGAAUUUAGAAAAUAUGAUAAUUUAAAGUAUCCCUUCCCAUUGUCUGUAGCUAAUACCCUUGAGUAAUUGCAUACUUUGAAGAUAAAGAGUUACUUGCAUCUAGAAAAUAUAAUCCUAGAUCCAUAAGUGUCGUGCAUACGAAGUUUUAGGCAAGUAGAAGUUUAAAAAAAAUGUGAAAAUUUAAAGUUUCUCUUACCACUAUUUGUUGCUAAUUGUAACACCUUUAACCCGUAUUUAUUGUUAGAAUAGGGUUUCGGAGCAUUAUCGAGUAAUCAUAAUCUAAAUUAUUCAUUUUCAAACAUUUCAAAAAUCAUAUUAUAAUUCAUCAUUAACAUGCAUAGAGUCCCCUAUUCAAGCCUUGGAGGGCAUAAAAUUACUUUAGAAUGGAUUUGAGACUAAAUUAGAAACAUUUAAAAACUUUAGAAGAAAGAAAAAUUUUAACUGCAGGGUUCACACAGCUGUGUGGCCAGGCUGUGUGACUCACACAGCCAAUUCACAUGCCCGUGUGUCUGGCCAUGUGGGCAUUCGAAGUAGGGACACACGAUCGUGCCGCAGCCCAUGUCCCUACCCGUGUAACUCACUGGCCAAGCCACACGCCCGUAUGUUAGGCUGUGUACCCUUCAAAAAUGGCCUCACACGCCCGUUGCUAGCCAUGUGUCUCACAUGGCCAAGUCACAUACCCCUGUGUCUGGCUGUGUUAACUUAAAUUGUAUCUUAAACAACAAGUUUACUAUUUCCUACUUGCUUGGGCAUUAAGUAACUCAAAAACCAUUCAUUUAACCUAUUCAAAGCACAAUCAAGCACACCUAAAACAUGCUAAAACAAUCAUCCUAGGUGCCUAACCAAUGUACCCUCAUUGGUACCACAUUUAUGUCAUCAAAAUAUAUCAUCAAUGCAUCAUUCAAAUCUAGUUUACAAACAUGCCAAAAUCCAUCACUUUGGCCUAGCUCAUAUCUACCUAAAACAUCAACUUUAAUUCACAUACACAUAACAAGUAUUGGUUUAAUUCAACAUACCAUAUUAAGGCUUCAAACACAAACAUAUAUUUACAUAUAUACCAAAACAACAUAGCACUUAUAACCUCAUUUACAAUUCAUCCACAAAAUAACUAUCAACUAGACAUCCUAGGUACAUGCCAACACAAAAGAUGAACAUCACCACGUUUGAGAUCGGGAUCGUUGUUGGAUGCCAUAUCAGCGAUCAAAAGAGAAGUACCUCACUUGCGUAUGAAAAACAAAAUCGUACGCUGAGUAAAACUCAGUAAUAUUUCUAUAAUCUGAACAAUUAAAGACAUAAAGAUACAUGAAUGCUCAAUUUGAAAUGCAUAAUCAUAUUUCUAACAAUCAAGCAAUUGUAAAUUAAUCAACAUCACAAUUUCAUGCAUAAUAUCACAUUAUAUCAUGAUUUGCUCACUUCACUAAUAUUUUUCCAUUAAUUGGUUUAACUUAUAACUCAAUUAACAACGACAUAUUUCAACUAUAUUCAAUCAAUGAGUACAUUACUCAUUUACCUCAUUUAUAAUCACAACUUUUUCACCUUUCAUUUAUCAAUUCACUUUUCCAUUUCCAAUUCACAUAUUUUGUCAUUUCAAUAUCGAUCAUAGAACUUGUUAUUUAAUUAUCCCUAUUAACCCGAAUUGAACUCGGAUGGUUACACGGAUCCAACCAACACACAAGUUUGACACCCAGUGCUUCAUCGGAUAAAUUUGAAGUAAUAGAUGCGCCUAACACUAUAUAAAUUGACACCCAGUGUCUUAUCGGUUAAACUGAAGUAAAUCGACACCCAGUGCCUCAUCGACUCGAAGUCGAAGAAAUUUUUAAACUCUUCCUAUCCUAUGGCAUGCUAUCUAUAUCCGACUUAGCCCGAUACAAUUAAUAAGGUUUCAUUUCACAUCUCAAAUACAACCAUUAUCCAAUAUCAAGUUUUCAUAUAAUCACAUUAUCACAUAUACAGAUGAAUUCAAUUCAAUCUAUAAUAAUUAAUACAUUCAUAAUGUAUAAACCACUUCAAUCCAUUUCAAUCAACUACAAUUUCAAUUCAAUAUCAAAGUGUCAAGAUACUUACCUUAACCACUUACCAUAUGUAUUAAAUCAAAAUAUAACAAUUAAUAGCUAGGUUCGGAUUAUAGAAAUACAUAUUGUGGAUUUCGAGCUAUUUGACGUCGAUUUUAACCUUCCUCUUUUUAGUCGAGGAUUCCAAUACGACGUUAGCUACAGAAUUAAAACAACUAAAAUUCAUCAAUACUACAAAAUUCAAUUUCAUAAUGAUUAUUUCAAUUUUUACUCAAUAUUUUCCUAAAUUCUAAUUUGUCCCUAAAUCGAGACUAAUUUUUAAUUUUUACAUUUAAUUCUAUAAUUUCAUACCAAUUUCACUUUAAAAUAAUUAAAUUUCCUAUUUUCAAUUAAAUCCCUAAAUUUCAAAAUUUUCACAAUUUAGUCCCUAUUACUCAAAAUUUACAAUUUGUUCUACAAUUUAGUCUUUUUCAAUUUCUAGCUUAAAAAUCUAUCAAAUUAAUCCCUACUACUAAAAAUAUUUAACAAUAACAACAUUUAAAAUCUUAAUCAAUACUAAAAUUACAACAUGGGUCGAGUAGCCCUAGGUACUGAGAUUCUAAAAACAUAAAAAUCACAAAAAGGGACUAAAUUAUAUCACUAUGGAUGAAUAAUUAUAUCACUCAUUAUUAUUGAAUAAAACAAAACAUAGCUAAUAACUAUUGUUAAGUAUCAGUUUCUGCUUUAAUUAGUUCUUAAUUCUUCUUUUUUUUUUGUUGAAGAUAACCGAAUCCAUAAUUUCAACAUUAGAAAUUUUGUAUUUAAAAAAAAUUCAAAAAAGGCUAAAUUGCAACUAUAUGCUGAAUUUUCUUCUUUUUUUUUUGAAAAUUUAUGUUGUUUUCUUGAAAAUUUAUCAAUUUAUAUUGUUUUUUACAAAUAGAAAGGAAAACGCAUCUGAUAGGACAUGUUUUCUUUGAUCUUCCAGAGAAAACAUGAGAUGCAUUUUAUUCUUUUUCCUAAAAACGCGCUCUAUAGGAUGCAUUUUCAGAUAGUUUAAAAUUAUUUUUUUCUUACGGUUUGAAAUUAGAAGUUUGUAAAUUUAGCUUUUCCCGUGUUCAAGAUAAAUAUUGUUAUAGUUUUAAGGUAUGUUUGAAUUUACAAUAAUGUCAUGGAGUUGGGUGACUUACGAAUUUCAUCUGGCACGUGAGCAUGAAGCCAUCAAUCGAGAAGCUGGAUUGCAUUGAAACUCAAGGUCCCAGUUGACAGUGUUUCUAUAGUCACCGAUUGAAAUGUAACUAGGUCUUCAAUUUUACAAAGGUUAUGUUAUCAAUGAAUAGAGCAUAAAUGGGCCCCAAUUGAUAGUGGUUAUGCGAGCACAACAACAAGUUUCUCAUCAUCAGGGGAGGAUGCUAUUUGCCACAAAAACAGAAGUAUGAGGAAGAAAAAUACAAUGGAGAAUCAAAAUUGGCAGAAAAUUCUAAACAAAAUAUUGAUAUUAAAAAGGCAAGGAUUCAGCCAAAUAAAUUGGAGAAGUGAUAGGCAAAAGGGCAACAUAAACAGAAAAUAAAACUUGUGUUUUAGGUAGCAAUAAUGAUGGAUUAUGAGAGAAAAUUGAAGAAUAAUGGAGAGAAAAAAUGAAGGGGAUUACAAUAGCUUGAGAAAAAUAAAUAAAAUAGGCUAAACAUAAAAUAAAAUGCAAUUUAUGCCUAGGUUAAAAAGGGCUUGGAAGGCAACAAGGUUUUAGGGAGCAGAAACAUUGAAAAAAUAAAAAUUUGCAAGGGAAGGGAAUUAACUCAAGUCUUAAGGUCAAUUUCACUAACUCUUUAUCACUAGGCCAAUUACUCAUUCUUUUCAUAAAUGCUCAAACAAAACCUUAAAAAUUAGGGCAAGACAACUCUCAGUUCACUAGCCUGAUUUCUUCUGACUCAAUUCCUUCCAACCCAAUUUUUGGGACAUGACAAAACUAUUAGUAAGUUUAUGUUUCGUUUUAGUCACUUAACUUCAAAAUGUUACAAAAUGGUCAAUAAACUAUUUAAUUCAUUUAAGUCAUUGGUUUGUUUUUUUUUUAAGUUUGACUAAUGAGCUCCAAGCGAUGAUUUGACAAUUGAUGUAGUGAAUCUAUACCCAUUGACGAGUGAAACAUAUCUUAGAUCCAAGUUAACCUACCAUUUAGUGUAGGAGAUUGGAGAAAAAAAGUUGUUUGAAUUUUGGUUCACAGAUUUGUGACGUUCAAAACUGUUUCAUGAAUAUAAAUUAUGUUGCAAAAGAGAAGAGAAAUGUGAGCUUUCAAUUAAUACAAAUGGUGCAAACAAAGGUCAUAUAGUAACAAUUUUAAAAGCCUGAUGACUUAAAUGAAAAUUUUUGUAUAAUUCAGUAAUCAUUUUAUAAUUUUUUGAAAUUAACUAAAACGUAAACUUAUUAAUAAUUUAAUAACCUCAAUUGCCAUUUACCCAUAAAACUAUUGAGACCAUUAAUGAUCAUUAUUCUAAAAAGUGAUGCAUUAAUUAUAUCUUUUAUCUUUUAUAUAUUGUUUCGAUUAAUACCUAAAUUAUUUGUACGAGAAAAAAAUCAAAAUGAAAUGCAACAUGUUCUGAACUUUUAUUAAAGCUCAUCAUUUUGUUGAAGAUACCCCAAUCCAUGAUUUCAACAUUGGAAUUUUUGAAAGUCCCUAGUAAUAGUAUGAAUUAUGAAAUUUCAAAAAAGCAUAUUCUUAUUUAUUGUUAAUUUCAAGGUAAUUUUAAUAGCUAUACUUACAUUUGUCUUUAGAAAAUAGAAAAUUCACUUUAAAUGUAUAAAAAUAAAUAAAGAAAACUCAUCUUCAUUUUUUAUAGCAAAUAAGAAAUAUGAAACAAAAACUAAAAAGGAAAUACAUAUUUUAUUGAAAGACGCUUUAAAUGAAACAAAUAUGAAAUACAUAGGAGUGUUCAAUUGCUUAAUCGAUUGGUUAACCAAAUCGAAUUAGUAUUAACUGAAUUAAUAUUUUCAAAAUUAUUGAAAUUCUCAUGUGAUGGUUUUGAAGUAGUGAGGAUGUUCUGAGGACUUAGUCUAGUUUGAUUUUGAAGUUCCCAAGUGAGGUAAAUGUAUUUAUGUAUGCUUAAUUUCUUUAUUUUUUAUUUUUUAUAUAUAAAUUAGUUAUAUAUUUCUUGAUCUAAUAUUAUCUUUUUAUGUUUUUGUUGAACUAAAUGAGAGCAAAAUAGAGUUUUUGGAUUUGUCUUGUUCACACUCAAAUUCUUGGAAUUGUUACUUCAUUUUGAAGUGGUGAGUAUGUUUCUUAUAUUUUCCAUCAUUAUAUGUAUAACAUUAGUUGGGUGAUAAAUAUAUUGAAUUUUUUAUGAUUAAAUUAUAAUUUUUUAAUUAAAUAAUCAAAAUGAAAAUUUACUCAUAAUUGAGUGAUUAAUGAUAUAAUUUAUCGUAAAAAUUACUUUUUAAUUUUAUCAAUUUUAUUUAUACUUUUAUUUAAUGAAUAUUUAAUGCACCGUGCAUAUACAAAUUAUAUACACUAUGGAUGAAUAAUUACAUCACAUAUUAUCAUUGAAUAAAACAAAACAUAGCUAAUAACCAUUAUUAAGUACGAGUUUCAGCUUUUAUUAGUUCUCAAUUUUAUUUUAUUUUUUGUUGAAGAUAACUGAAUCCAUAAUUUCAACAUUGGAAAUUUUGUAUUUCAAAAAAAAAAUUCAAAAAGGCUAAAUUACAACUAUAUGCUGAAUUUUUUUUUUUUGAAAAUUUAUGUUGUUUUCUUGAAAAUUUAUCAAUUUAUAUUGUUUUUUACAAAUAAAAAGGAAAACGCGUCUUAUAGAACGUGUUUUCGCUGAUCUUCCAGAGAAAACAUGAGACAUUUUAUUCUCUUUCCUAAAAACACGCUCUGUAGGAUGCAUUUUCAGAUAGUCUAAAAUUAUUUUUUUUUCUUGCGGUUUGAAAUUAGAAGUUUGUAGAUUUAACUUUUCUCGUGUUCAAGAUAAACAUUGCUAUAAUUUUAAGGUAUGUUUGAAUUUACGGUAGUGUCAUGGAGUUGGGUGACUUACGAAUUUCAUUUGACAUGUGAGCAUGGAGCUAUCAACCGAGAAGCUGGAUUGCAUUGCAACUCAAGGACUCAGUUGUCAGUGGUUCUAGUCUCCGAUUGAAGUGUAGCUAGGUCUUCAAUUUCACAAAAGUUAUGUUAUCAAUGAAUAGAGCAUAAAUAGGGGCCUAGUUGAUAGUGGUUAUGCAAGCACGACAAUGAGUUUCUCAUCAUCAGGGGAAGAUGCUAUUCGCCACAGAAACAGAGCAAUAAGAGUGUUCUGAAUAUUACUCUGAAAUGGUCCUAAAAAUUACAAGAAUCUCCUCUACAGUCUAGUUGUUCGAAAUGCCUCUAGGAAUGUAAAAACAAAAUCUUGAUAGGUUUUUUCUGUUUUUGUUUGUUUUUUAAUUCCUUCUUCAAAGGCACAAACAUCUUUACCUUCUAAACCAUCGAUAUCUUCAAAGAAUUCCAAUUCUUUAUCAUCCAUCAGGCUCUGUACUAGAGUUCUGAACUAGACGCACUUUUGGAUUUUAGGAAAUUUAUUGUAUGCAAUGAAAUGUAAUGUUAAUGAAUGGAAAAGAUGCAUGCAAAAAGGUGUUAAUUCUAGUUCAAUUCCAUUAGAACAACUUUACUAGAAAACAAGUUUCUUUGCAUAAAGCGGAUACAUAUACGGCCUCGCCUUCACACUUAAGACCUUAAUUUUCCUAAGAAAUAAAGUUAAUUCUUAGCCUUGAUCCGACUCCGAUUCAUAUUUCAGGCUUUGAACGACCGGGGUCUGCAAGUGGUCAGCCACUUCUCGUACUUGAACCAAAGCUUCGCUCAUGAUAUGGUCCAUAUCUCUGACCUGCCUCUCUCACAGGCUGUUACCUUUCUCUUGUUGCCUUUUCUUAGACCAUAUUUGCAGGGUCGUGUUGUCUUGGGUUUUAUCAAGAGACUCAUUUUCCAUGACGAGCUCUCUAUUUAGCAACUGAACUUGAAUCAACACCUUUUUUAUAUGAUGAAAAAUGCAAUGCAAUCAUAAACAAAACAAAACGAAACGGGUUAGUACAAAGCAAAAGUAAGCAAGAAAGAAACAAAUAGAGCACCUAUUUGGGAGACCACUAGGGUUUGGUGUAGUUCUACCUAGGAUAAGCUCUUAGGGCUCACUAUAUGCGGUUCGGUUCUAAAGUAAAGGUACCAGAACCAGAAGAUUCCUUGAUCCUCACCCAUUAUAGGCUCAUAUGGAUCGAGUUCAGUUCAGGGGAAUACAUUUCCCUAUGGCUACACAGAGAUGAAAAUCUCACAAAGACAUAGGUACAGAUGUAUCCCGAAAGUGACCCACUAUCCUGCACGGAGGUGAAAACCUCACGAAGGAAUAGUUUCUCACUCCUACUUAAAAGGGUAUAACCGAACGGUUAUGCAAAUGCAAUAUGCAAAAAUAUGUCGAGAGACUUGAACAAAUAAAGCAAAUAUAGCAAAAUGACGCAAACUAUAAAAAAUGAAAUGCAAUGAAAAAUCGUACAUUUAAACCAAGUUUUCAAUUUCAACAAAAAGACAAAAAGUAUCAACUCGUGGCUUGACUCUCUUAUUUUAGUCCCCAGUGGAGUCGCCAAGUUGUCGAAACCAUUUUUUUGAAAAGGGAUCGACUUAAAUUUUGAAAAAAAAAUGAAAAUGGAGUCGCCACCAAUCCUUUUUAUUUUGGUGUGAUUGGAUCACCUCAUAAUUAAAUCAUUUUAAUAAAAAUUUAAAUUUACUAAAACGAUAAUUUUUGGUCUUAUAAAAUCAUGAAACGGGUUCAGAAGUCGGCUACGCACGAGAAAGGAUUAGCACCCUCGACACGCCCAAAAUUGGUACCUUGUUGAUUAAUUAGUGUCUUAAUAUAAAAAAUGUGCAAAGAUUUUAAAAUACGAUCCUUGUAUUAAAAAAAACUUGUAUAAAUCAAAUUACAUGUUAAGACCCUCUCAUUUCGGAGAGAGAAAAUGUCACACCCAAUGAGUUAGGGCAUGAUAUUUCACAUCCUCAAAAAUGAGCUUGUCCUUAAAAAAACUCAUACAAUAAAAUUCAAAAGGAUAUUCAAUUGUUUAAGUCAGAUGAAGAAAUCGUAGUCCAAUACGUUAGGGCACAAUUUCUCAAAAUUCCAAACAUUGAAUAUUGCCUUUAUUAUCAAGAUUUUCCUUUUUUUACGAAUUUGGGUAAAAAUUAAUGUAAUAUUUAACGAGAUGUACGUUUAAUUUAUGCAAAUAUAGUGUGAAGGCGAACAAUUUUUCAUACAAUGUAUAGUACAAUAAUAAUGAUAUAACGUAAAAUAACUAUGUUAGUAGAAUAUUUAAAGGGUAAAUAAUAAAUCAUAGAACACAAUAAUAAUAAUGACGUAAUUAUAAUAUUAAUCACCAAAUAAUAAUAACAAUGACCAUAUUAAUUACUUAUUCUAAUAUUAAAAAUAUAAAAAAGAAUUAAACACUAAUAAAAAUGAUAAUAAUAAGGAUGAUAAUGAAAUGUACAAAUUGAAAGUAAUAAAUGUAAUAUAAAAGUAAGAACAAUAAAAGAAAAUGACAAAUAAUAAAUGAUAAACAAAAAGUGUGAAAACAAAAAAAUAAAAAAAAUAAUGGAAGUAUUGAGUAAAUAAAAACAAAUAAAGCAUUUGAUUUUUUAAAAAGGAUUAAACAAACAAAGAAAAAACAAUAAACAAAAUAGUUUAUAUAAAAAAUAAAAAUAAGAACAAAAAAAUGAAAUUAAAUGGACCUAGGACCAAACUGAAAUUAAAAUAAAAUAAAAUGACAAAAUUUACAAGAAAAAAACAAUCAGGCCCAAACGAAGCGCGCGCAAAGAUGCAGGGUCGGAAGGGAAAUAUUCCCAUGUAUUUUGAACGGCGCCGUUUCAGGGGACAGCAUCUGUGCAUGGUCCAGGGACCAAAUUAAAUCGGAGACAAAAUUUUGUGGCCAAAAUCAAAAGAAGAAAAGGACCGUAUUGAACACGCCGCCAAGGCGGGGAACCAAUCGCUCAAAUAGACCAUUAAAGUUAAAACGGGCGGAUCUACCUUGCGGGUCGAGUCGGUGCGCGGGUCAGGCUAAAAACGGCGUCGUUUUGGUGCCUGAGAGGCUUGCCCAAAACGGCGUCGUUUUGCUGGCCUAUAUAAGUAAGUUUUUUUGACAAAAAAAAUCAUUUAGCCCUUUGUUCAGAAAAAAAAAAUCUUUAAAACUCUCUCCCCCUCUCUGGUUUUCUCUGGGCACUGCCCAGAAUCCGGUGAAGAGGGCCGCCGUGGCUCUGCCGCGCCUCCGUUGUGUACGGUGGUCGGACGACCAGGUAAGUUUUCGUUUCCUUUUUCUUUUAUAUUAUAUAUUAUAUAUAUCUAGUUUUUUAAAACAAAGGGAAAUAAAAAACUUGAAUAUAAACAGUUUUAAAAAAAUGAAAAUAAAGAAAAUAAAAAAAUGACCUUUCGCACGUUUCUAGUUUUUUUUUAUCUGCUUUCGUUUUUGUUGUUUUUGUGCUUGAAUCUCCUUUUUUAUUUCAAGCAAAAUCCGAACCCUUUUACAAUGAUUUAUCGUGGCUUAUUAGUUAAAUUAUUUUCAAGCAACGGAUUGAUUUGACAUUAAGACAUUGAUUUCAUCGCUAUGUUGGGUGAAUAUCAUUGGCUCGUGUUAAAUAUGGGACGCCCUUCUAAAAAAUCAAGAAAUUCAAAAAUUCCCGUGUUAAAAUAAAAUGUUUAUCUUUUGUAAAUUAUCAAAUUACAUAUUUAAAAAUAUAUAAUAAUAUGUAAUUUAUCAAAAUUCUUGUGUUUCAAAUGAAACAAAUAUGAAAAACAUAGUUGUAGGAGUGUUCAAUUGCUUAAUCUAUCGAUUAACCAAAUCGAAUUAGUAUUAACUGAAUUAGUAUUUUUCGAAAUAAUCGAAAUUCUAAUUUUAUGGUUUUGAAGUAGCAAGGAUCUUCUCAGCACUUAGUCUAGUUUGAUUUUGAAGUUCCCAAGUGAGGUAAUGUAUUUAUGUAUGCCUACAACAAUUUAUAUUAGAAUUUUUCAUAGCUUUGUUAUUUAAUGUGAUUUAUAUUAGAAUUUGGAUUAUUGCUUUGUUAAGGACUACAACAAUUCGGUUUAUUGAUUUGUUAAGGCCUCAGAUGCUUCUGAAAUUGAUGCUCAUUUCCAUUUGGUUUAUACAUAGAUAUGAAAUAAAAAGAUUAAUUAGUGAAAUAGUUGAAGUCUGACCGUGCAGCACUCAACUUCAAAGUCGGCACCUCUUCUAUCUAUCUAUAUAUUUUUGGGCUCGAAUGAAAAAUGGGCAAAUAUUAUAAAUAUUUGAUCAAACUUCCAUAAUAAUUAAGUUUAGCUAAUUUCAAUUGUUUCUUAAUUUCUCCUAGUUUCAAUACAAUAUUGAUAGGUUUCAGGUGUCUUGAAACCUAAAACUGAAAAAAAAAGAUACAAUCGAAACUAGUUAUUAUGAAAGUAGCAGUAGCAACAUCAAUAAUUUAGAUCCCGAUAUUGAGGUAAUCUCAUAACACAAAUCCUUUGCUACUAAACCAAGAAAACCCAAUUGUCUUAAGAGUUCAUAUUUGUGAAGGUUUCUUAACAUUUUAGUGCAACCUUGAUUUUUAUUUUUAUUUAUUUCCUUUCCCUUAAAGAGAACAAAAGAUCUUCAACUUCUUUUCUUUUUUCUUCUUCAGUUUUGCUUACUUUCUUUUGCUCCCAAAAACCAAAAAAAAUAUCCCUUCAAAUCCCAUUUGAUGGUUUUGAAGUAGCAACGAUCUUCUCAGCACCUAGUCUAGUUUGAUUUUGAAGUUCCCAAGUGAGGUCAAUGUAUUUAUGUAUGCUUAAUUUCUUUAUUUUUGAUUUUUUUAUAUAUAAAUUCGUUAUAUAUUUCUUCAUCUAAUAUUAUAUUUUUAUGUUUUUCUUGAACUAAAUCAGAGCAAAAUAGACUGUUUGGAUUUGCUUUUUUUCACACUCAAUUUCUUGGAAUCAUUACUUCAUUUUGAAGGGGUAAGUGGGUAUGUUUAUUAUAUUUCCAUCAUUAUAUGCAUAAUAUUAAUUGGGUGAUAAAAAAAAUUGAAAAUAUCUAUGAUUAAAUUUCAUUUAUAAUAGAGUCACUAUCAUUAAAAUUAUUUUUUUAUUUUUAUUUAGUGAAUAUUUAAUUUACCGUCGAUGCACAAAUUUUAUACACUAUAGAUGAAUAAUUACAUCACAUAUUAUUAUCAAAUAAAACAAACAUAGCUAAUCACCAUUCUUAAGUACCCCUUUGAGCUUUUAGCCAAUUCAAUCUUGGAACUUUUGUAUGUUUUCUUUUAGAAAAUGGAAAUUUUGAAGGAAAUUUCGAAAAGCCUAUUCUUAUUUAUUAUUAGUUUUGUGGAAAAGAACUUGCUGUAUAAUAGAAACAUCGGAAAUACAUUUGUCUUUAGAUUUAGCAAAAAUGAAUAAUGGAAACACUUUUUCAUUUCUGAUAGCAAAUGAAAAUUAAGAAAAAAAACAUUCAAGAAAAUAGAUAUUUUAAAUGUAGUAAAAAUCAAACAAAUAACUCAAACAACCCUUCAAAUGUUUACAUAUUUCGUUAGUUAAAAACCAAGAAAUUGACUCUUUAUAUUUAUAAGUUUGCACUUUAAAGAUAAAGAGAUGCUUGCAAUUAAAAGAUCUAAUUCAAGAUCCACAAAUGUCAUACAUAAGCCUCCAAAGUUUAAGGGAAGUAGAAUUUAAAAAAUGUGAUAAUUUAAAGUAUCCCUUCCCAUUGUCUGUUGCAAAUACCCUUGAGUAAUUGCAUACUUUGAAGAUAAAGAGUUACCUGCAUCUAGAAAAUAUAAUCCAAGAUCCAUAAGUGUCGUGCAUAUGAAGUUUUGGGGAAGUAGAAGUUUAAAAAAUGUGAAAAUUUAAAGUAUCUCUUCUCACUAUCUGUUGCUAAUUGUAACAUCCCUAACCUAUAACUGUCGUUGGAAUAGGGUUUCAGAGCAUUAUCGAGUAACCGUAAUCUAAAUCAUUCAUUUUCAAACAUUUCAAAAAUCAUAUUAUAAUUCAUCAUUAACAUGCAUAGAGUCCCUUAUUCAAGACUUGGAGGGCAUAAAAUUACUUUAGAAUCGAUUUGGGACUAAAUCGGAAACAUUUGAAAACUUUAGGAGAAAGAAAAAUUUUAACUGCAGGGUUCACACAGCUGUGUUGCCGGGCCGUGUGACACACACAGCCAAGUCACACGCCUGUGUGUCUGGCCGUGUGGGCAUUCGAAGUAGGGACACACGGUCGUGUCCCAACCCAUGUCCCUGCCCGUGUAACUCACUGACUUGGGUCAUACGGCCAAGCCACACGCCUGUAUGCUAGGCUGUGUACCCUUCAAAAAUGGCCUCACACGCCGUUGCUAGCCAUGUGUCUCACAUGGACAAGUCACAUACCCGUGUGUCUGGCUAUGUUGACUUAAAUUGUAUCUUAAACAACAAGUUUACUAUUUCCUACUUGCUUGGGCAUUAAGUAACUCAAAAACCAUUCAUUUAACCUAUUCAAAACACGAUCAAAAACAUGCUAAAACAAUCAUCCUAGGUGCCUAACCAAUGUACCCUCAUUGGUACCACAUUUAUAUCAUCAAAAUAUAUCAUCAAUGCAUCAUUCAAAUCAAGUUUAUAAGCCAAAAUCCAUCACUUUGGCCUAGCUCAUAUCUACCUAAAACAUCAACUUUAAUUCACAUACACAUGACAAGUAUUGGUUUAAUUCAACAUACCAUAUUAAGGCUUCAAACACAAACAUAUAUUUACAUAUAUACCAAAAAACAUAGCACUUAUAACCUCAUUUACAAUUCAUCCACAAAAUAACUAUCAACUAGACAUCCUAGGUACAUGCCAACACAAAAGAUGAACAUCACGACGUUUGAGACCGGGAUCAUUGUUGGAUGCCAUAUCAAUGAUCAAAAGAGAAGUACCUAACCUGCGCACGAAAAACAAAACCGUAUGCUGAGUAAAACUCAGUGAUAUUUCUAUAAUCUGAACAAUUAAAGAUAUAAAGAUACAUGAAUGCUCAAUUUGAAAUGCAUAAUCAUAUUUCUAACUAUCAAGCAAUUGUAAAUUAAUCAACAUCACAAUUUCAUGCAUAAUACCACAUUAUAUCAUGAUUUGCUCACUUCAUUAAUAUUCUUCCAUUAAUUGGUUUAACAUAUAACUCAAUUAACAAUGACAUAUUUCAACUAUAUUCAAUCAAUGAAUACAUUACUCAUUUAUCUCAUUUAUAAUCACAACUUUUUCACCUUUCAUAUAUCAAUUCACUUUUCCAUUUCCAAUUCACAUAUUUUGUCAUUUCAAUAUCGAUCAUAGAACUUGUUAUUUAAUUAUUCCUACUAACACGAAUCGAGCUCGGACAGAUACACGGAUCCAACCAACACACAAGUGUGACACCAGUGCCUCAUCAGAUAAAUCUGAAGUAAUAGCUGCGCCCAGCACUAUAUAAAUUGACACCCAUUGUCUCAUCGGUUAAACCGAAGUAAAUCGGCACCCAGUGCCUCAUCGACUCGAAGUCGAAGAAAUCUUUAAACUCUUCCUAUCCUAUGGCAUGCUAUCUAUAUCCAACUCAGCCUGAUACAAUUAAUAAGGUUUCAUUUCACAUCUCAAAUACAACCAUUAUCCAAUAUCAAGUUUUCAUUUAAUCACAUUAUCACAUAUACAGAUGAAUUCAAUUCAAUCUAUAAUAAUCAAUACAUUCAUAAUGUAUAAACCACUUCAGUCCAUUUCAAUCAACUAUAAUUUCAAUUCAAUAUCAAAGUGUCAAAAUACUCACCUCAACCACUUACCAUAUGCAUUAAAUCAAAAUAUAGUAAUUAAUAGCUAGGUUCGAAUUAUAAAAAUACAUAUUGUGGAUUCCGAGCUAUUUGACGUCGAUUUUAUCCUUCCUCUUUUUAGUCGAGGGUUCCAAUACGACGUUAGCUACAGAAUUAAAACAACUAAAUUUCAUCAAUACUACAAAAUUUAAUUUCAUAAUGAUUAUUUCAAUUUUUACUCAAUAUUUUCCUAAAUUCUAAUUUAGUCCCUAAAUCGAGACUAAUUUUUUAUUUUUUACAUUUAAUUCUAUAUUUUCAUACAAAUUUCACUUUAAAAUAAUUAAAUUCCCUAUUUUCAAUUAAAUCCCUAAAUUUCAAAAUUUUCACAAUUUAGUCCCUAUUACUCAAAAUUUACAAUUUGUUCUACAAUUUAGUCUUUUUCAAUUUCUAGCUUAAAAAUCUAUCAAAUUAAUCCCUAAUACUAAAAAUAUUUAACAAUAACAACAUUUAAAAUCUUAAUCGAUACUAAAAUUACAACAUGGGUCGAGUAGCCCUAGGUACCGAGAUUCUAAAAACAUAAAAAUCACAAAAAAAGGGACUAAAUUAUAUCACUAUGGAUGAAUAAUUAUAUCACUUAUUAUCAUUGAAUAAAACAAAACAUAGCUAAUAAUUAUUGUUAAGUACCAGUUUCAACUUUUAUUAGUUCUUAAUUCUUCUUUCUUUUUUUUUUUGUUUAAGAUAACCGAAUCCAUAAUUUCAACAUUAGAAAUUUUGUAUUUAAAAAAAAUUCAAAAAGGCUAAAUUACAACUAUAUGCUGAUUUUUUUUUUUUGAAAAUUUAUGUUGUUUUCUUGAAACUUUAUCAAUUUAUAUUGUUUUUUUUCCAAAUAGAAAGGAAAACACAUAUUAUAGGACGUGUUUUCUCUUAUCUUCCAGAGAAAACAUGAGAUGCAUUUUAUUCUUUUUCCUAAAAAUGCGCUCUAUAGGAUGCAUUUUCAGAUAGUCUAAAAUUAUUUUUUUUUCUUACGGUUUGAAAUUAGAAGUUUGUAGAUUUAGCUUUUCCCAUGUUCAAGAUAAACAUUGUUAUAGUUUUAAGGUAUGUUUGAAUUUACGAUAAUGUCAUGGAGUUGGGUGACUUAAGAAUUUCACCUGGCAUGUGAGCAUGGAGCCAUCCGAGAAUCUGGAUUGCAUUGCAACUCAAGGUCCAAGUUGACAGUGGUUCUAUAGCCUCCGAUUGAAGUGUAACUAGGUCUUCAAUUUUACAAAGGUUAUGUUAUCAAUGAAUGGAGCAUAAAUGCGGCCCCAAUUGAUAGUGGUUAUGCGAGCACAACAACGAGUUUUGUCAUCAUCAGGGGAGGAUGCUAUUUGCCACAGAAACAAAAGUAUGAGGAAGAAAAAUGCAAUGGUGUUUUAGUAUAAUCAAGUAAUUCGGUAGAAAUGGAUAAAAUGCUACUACAUUUUUCUUUCCUUUUUACUUUUUUUCUGUGGUGUAUAGCUUCCUCCAUUGAUGAUGAAAAAAAUCCUUAUCGUGCCUGCAAAAGUACCACCAACUAGGGCCAAAUUUAUGUUCUGUCCCCUGGCAGUAUAACCUUUGUAAACUUGAAACCUUAGUUAUAUUUCAACCCGAGACCGUAUAAUCACCGUCAACUUGGAUCUCGAGUUGCAACGCGAUCUCGACUGCUCAGGUGAUGACUCAAUGCUCACAUGGUAGGUUAAGUUUGUUGGAAUAAAAAACCGAUAACUUUGAAAUUAAUAAACUAACCUCCUCUUUUGUUUGUUGGUCUAAAUUUAGUCAGAUGUCCUCGAGCUCGGUCAAUAUAUUGUUGUGUCUGGCGAGGUUAUUCCACCUAUACCAAAACCAUGUUAUUUCAACAUUACAAUGAAAAUUCUGAUACAGUAACAAUAUUAUGAAAUAAAUUUUAUCAUGUUACGAAUGAGAAUUUAUAAGGGGAAUUUCUAUCGCAUUCUGUAUUUUUCAUAAUCUUUACAAGUAGUAUACUCCACUAUAUAUAGAGAGAUUAGACUCUUCAUAUUCUAAUACAUAAAUAAGAAAAGGGGGUUAUAAGGAGAUGAAAGGUUAAAAAUUAAAGAAAAUGAAAGAUUAAAGGUCAAGGGAGAUGAAAAGUGAAAAGUGAAAGGUUGAACAUCCGCUUAAUAACAUUAAUAUAAAUAUUUUAAAUGUAGCAAAAAUCAUAAAAAUAAUUGAAACAUCGCUCCAAAAUCCAAAUGAACCAAAUCCACUCAAGCAAUUACUGAAACUUCAAGGAAAAUGUGAGAGCAUAGAUUAUUUAUUUUUAAUAAGUUAAUUGCACCAAAUAUUUUUAAAUUAUUACCCGCAUUCUAAAUUAAUUCAUUAAAUUUUAAAUCAUUUUAGUUACAUCUCUAAACUAAACAGAAUAUAUCAAUUUAAAUUUUUUUAAAUCAUUAAUUUAAUGAUAAAAAGACAUCUUCAGUCACUCUCAAUUUUAAAAUUGAGUAAAUUAGUCACUUUCAAAAAAAUUGGAACAAUUUAAUCUCUGUCAAUUUUGAAAGUGAGCAACUAAGAACAACUAAUCACAACGUUCAUGUCUUUCGUCAAUUGUGCAUAAUUUUGAUUGGUACAAUAACACAUUUAGCCCUUGAUGUUUACAUAUUUUGUUAGUUUGGUCUUGAUUCUAAAAAAAAUCAACAAAUUCAGUCUCAACAUUUACACAUUUACAAAAAUAUUACAGGCUAAAAUUGUUAUCAUAUCAAUCAAAUUUAUGUAAAAUUGAUGAAAAACAUUAAUAUUGUGAUUAAUUACUCACUUUUGAAAUUGGUAGGGAUUAAAUUGCUUCGAUUUUUUUAGAGGGACCAAUUUGCUGAAUAUUAAAUUUGAGAGGGACUAGAGAGGUCGUUUUACCUAGUUUAAUAAUUAAAUGAUAUGUUAAAUCUUAUGUGAUAUAAUUUAAAAUGAAUUUUUUUAAAAAAAAAUGAAGAUUGUAAAAAUAGUUGUUUUAAAAAUCUUGGUUUUGAAGUUUUUACAAAUUUUGUAACGUUCAUCAAUACUACAAAAUUCAUAUAUAAUCUUAUUGAAUUAAAUUUCACAUUUUGUACUAUUUAUUUUAUUGAAUUGUUUAAUCAUAUUAAAUCUUUAGUAAUUUCAGUUCAAAUUGAAUUAUUGAUGAUGCCAUAAAAUAUUCGUGUUAAAAUUUUCUAUUGGUAUCAAUUUCACAUUUUAUCUUUAAAAUAUCAUUUAUUAAAAAAUCACAUUUUUUACAUUUAAUAUAUUUUUUUAAUUUCAAAAUACAUGAUGACAAAAAUCAGAAGAUAAUUGAAGCAACUAAGCAAGCAAAUAAGUUAACUCAUAUAUAAAAUAUUAAUAAAUAAAUUAUGAGGGGAUGAAAAUUAGUAAUAAAUUUGAUUACAGUGAGUAACAGUGGCUAUAAGAAUUCAAAAUCAUUUUUUUUUAAUUUAACUAUAACUCAUUAAAACCCAAUUUGCGUCAUUAUGAUGGAUUAAAGGAAGUAGGGAAGCAACAAUAGAAAAAUAUUGAAAAGGAAAAAAAACUUCGAAGAUGAACUUGUUCCCAUGCAAUAGCCAGGAAUUCUUGGUGGUAUCGAGCCAGAACAACAUGUUCUUCUUGGAUACCCUAAUUCAGGGCCAAAGAAUAUCCUAUCGCUACCAUAUAAAUAUUCAUUUCAACUUGGGGAUAAAUAAAGUAUCUGUGUUUUUUUUUUUUGUUUUUUUUAUCUCUCAAAGAUUUUAUAAAAUGGACUUUCUAGAGACCCUCAAUGACCAAUCUGGCAUGAAUUGUUAAGGACCCAAUAAGGCCAACAUUGAUCCCUGAGACGUGUCAAUUGGGCAAAUGUGUCCAUAGUGACUAAGAUGGAUACUUCGUAUCUGAAAAUUAGCAGUUCGCCCAGUCAAUCCUCCAAGGCCCGAAUAACUCAAUUUUCUCUCAUGCACUAUUUGUGUCAAUGGAUUUGUUCGAUCCAAAACUUGAGACAAUAGGUGUAACCUGAAAAACAAUUCAUAAGUGGUUGUUAAUGGAAUCAAAGUUACCGAAGAGUUGGUAUCAAUUUAUUUCAGAAUGAAUGGAAAGGACAUUUCCAUGGUUUUAGACCUCAUAUCUAUCUUCCAAAUCUGGAGAGCAGAUUAAAGGUUUUAGUAUCAAGUAGAAAAGUAAGUAUGAAAUACCCAAAAUGCCAACUAAUAAUGGCAGACAGCAAAGCAAAAAGCUAAAAGAAAAGAUGGGAUUUCUUACUAAACAAUUCUGCCUUUGUGGAACCCACCACAGAAGUGAAUGCCUCAUUAUUUUGCCUGUUUUUGUCUUCACUUUCUUCUUCUUUUUGGCUAUUGUACCCGCAACAUUCAUUCUUCUUCACUGUUUCUAUCAAGCAUCCAGUCAAGGCAAUUUCCUUUGAUUUGCUUAAUCCAUGACGUGCUUUUCAUUGCUUAAUUCGUGACUAUGCAAUGAUUGUUUUUUAUUAUCUGCUUCAGUUAUAGUCAAGGGAGUCAGCUUCACUGCUUCAUUUUCAGUUCUAAUCUCUCAAGACUUUUCAGCCACUAAGUCAGGUAAUUUGUGCUUCCCAUUCUUUGAUCCUUAAAUAUGCAAUUCAGCUCAUUGGAAAAUUUGUUUCCUUAUUAUCAACUCAUGACAUGAUUUCCUUUGCUUUUACAUGACAAGAAAGAUGAAUAAUUGUAAUAAGAUCUGAAGCAAUGAUUUCCUCUACUGAUUAUCAACAGUUUUAGAUUUCAAGUCUGGAUGAUCAGCAGACGUAAUCUACUUUAGAUAGAAAUUAAUACCAAAAGAGCUACCCAGAAGCAAUAUGAUGUUGAAAUCUCAAACUGUUGAACAUUUUACCUCUUAAUAUUCUGUUGCACACUUGAAUCUAGCAUUUUCUAUACAUUGAGAGAUUAAUUCUGGAUAUACAAAUUUCAUCAUGUUUCCGUCUGCCACCCAUCCAUGGCUCCAUCUAAUAAACGCCAUUGCUUGAAACUUGCAUUCAUGCUUACACUGACAUAUCAAAAAGCCAAUACAUUCACAGAUUUUAAUUCUCUGCUACUGUUAUAUAUGAUUGCGUUGCAUGGACAUAGCAAUGGAGUACGUAGAGCCUGUUCUUGGCAUUAUUAUAUGUUUCCUAUAUGUUUCUUGAAACCAAAUUAAUAAUAUUAUCAAAUUGAGUUUCAUGCCCUUGAAGAACAUCUAGAAUUGAUAUUAUAAAGACUUAUGAAAUUGACCUUAAUGCCUUUUUUUAGUCAAAAGAAAAGAAAAUAAUUAUUUUUCAAAACCCAAAUUAUAUUCAGUUUUUUUUAUAACAUAAAAAUUAUGUCAAGAAAUAGAAGAAUUAAAAAGCAGAGAACAAAUAAUUUUCCUUUAUGUUUCUUCCAUAUUCUUUUAAAGAAUGAAUAUUGGAUAUCUUAAUGUAAAUAAUAUAGAGAAAGUUUGGAGGGUUUAAAAACAUUUACCCCUCAUUUUCCCUUACUUUAUUUAUUUUUUAAAAUUUUAUCUACUUUUAUUUAAUUUUUAAUUUUAUAAUUUUCUGAACUUUUGAAAAUAACUUCAACUUUUUACAUUUUACAUUAGUGACGAAAUUGCAACUACUUUUUUAUAGUUAAAUGACAAAAACGAAAAUUACCAAUAGUUUAGUGACUAGUGUAGCAUUUUUUUGGUACAAUUAAUGAUCAUUCGAAUUUCAACUAUUCCUAAAGAAAGUAAACACCUAACCAAUAAAUCACAACUUGAGAUAGCUUAUCCAGGAAUUUAUAUUCACAUUUUACAAACCUUCAUAUGUAAAAUAUUACUCAGAGUUGAAUCCAAAUUUUAAAACCAACAACAAGCCAUUUACUACAACACCAACAACUAUACUUUGUUUUUAUAGGGUGCCAAUAACAACACCUAUUACAACUCAUUUACUAGUAUAUUUAAUUUCAAGUUGUAACAUAUAACUAGGCAUUCUUAUACCCUGCUUUCCCAUACUUUCCCAUCAUCAUCAUCAUCAACAUCGUUGUUGUUACAAUUGAGCACCAAGAUCACUGCAAUUCUUGUUAGUAUUGUCCAGAAUUAAUGCAAAGGACAUUUCUAUGGAUUUUAGACCUCAUAUCUAUCUUCCAAAUUUUGAGAGCAGAUCAAAGGUUUUAUUAUUACAGAUUUAAAGAAGAAUCAGAUUGUAAAUCAUCGAUCAACUGUUGAGAAAAAUCAGUAUCAAAUACGGUAGCUGCACCGAAAAUGCCAACUAUAAUGGCAGAAGCUAAGGAAAAGUAAAAAAAAGAUGGGAUUCCUUACUUAAUAUUUCUGCCCUUGUACCCACAACAUUCUUUCUUCUAUCACAAAAUUUCAACCAUCCACUCUACCUACUUUCCUUUCAUUUGCUUAAUAGUUCUGCCUUUCUACCCACAACAUUCUUUCUUCUCCACUGUUUUUAAUUUCUUUUCAUCUCCAAGGUCUAUCACCAAAUUUCAAGCAUCCCGUCAAAGGUAAUUUUCUUUCAUUUGCUUCAUUCAUGACAUGCUUUUCCUUGCUUCAUUCAUGACUAUGCAAUGACAGUUUUUUAUUAUCUGCUAGCUUUGUAAGAUAGUCAAGGAAGUCAACUUCACUGCUUCAUUUUCAGUUCUAAUCUCUCAACACAUUUUCAGUUCUAAUCUAUCAACAGUUUUAGAUUUUAAGACAGGAUAGGAUGACCGGAAAACAUAAUCUAUCAUAGAUAGAAAUCUCAAACUGUUGAACAUUUUAGCUCUUAAUAUUCUGUAAUGAACUGUUGCACACUUGAAUCUAGCAUUUUAUAUACAUCGAGAGCUUAAUUCUGAUGACCAGAAUUUAAUCAUGUUUCUGUCUGCCACCCAUCCAUAGCUCCAUCUAAUAAACGCCAUUGCUUGAAACUUGCAUUCAUGUUUUCCUUUUCAUGCUUUCACUGACAUAUCAAUACUUCAUAAAAUAUCCAAUUCAUUCACGGAUUUUCAUUCUCUGCUACUGUUAUAUAUGAUUGCAUUGCAGGGACAUAGCAAUGGAGUACGUAGAACCUGUUGUCGACAUUGCAAAUUGUCUCGGAACUCCUGUUUGUAAAUAUUUGCAAUAUCACAGAAAGCUGAACGAUUAUGUGAGAAACUUCAAGAGGAUCAGAGAUGAAUUGAAUUGCAAAAUGGAAGAUAUAGAGCUGCAAUUGAAAGCAGAGCUUCUUCGUCCUCUGGGGAAGAUACCGAAGAAGGGAGUUGAAAAUUGGUUGAAAGCUGUGAAAGAGAUCAUUAGGGAAGCACAAGUUGUUGAAAACAAAGUCAGUAACGGGAUAUAUCUCUGCCGUGCUUGCAACGGGAGGCUGGUUGAUGAAAAGACUCGAGAAAUGAAGGAAUUUCUUGAUAAUGCUCCUAAUGCCUCUGAAGGUCUUGCCAUGGAUGGUCCAAGUGCUGGGUUGCCACUGGAAACAUCAGAACUAGUUGGAGAGGAAGCUGUCAGAAAAGAGAUUUGGGCAUGUUUGAUGCAGGAGGAGGUAAGCAAGAUUGGGGUUUGGGGGAUGGGCGGCGUGGGUAAAUCGACCAUCAUGAAGCACAUCCACAAUGAUCUUUUGAAAGAACAGCGAUUUGAAAAGGUGGUUUGGGUUACUAUAUCAAAGGACUUCAAUAUUGUGAAGUUACAAAAUGAUAUUGCAAGUGCAUUGAAUGGAAAGAUGCCCGAAGAAGCAAACAAGGUCAGACGAGCAGCAAUCUUGUCUGAAAUGCUGAAGAGAGCAGGAAAACAUGCUCUAAUCCUAGAUGAUGUGUGGAGUGAAGUCUCGUUGGAAGAAAUUGGGAUCCCUAAGCCAAGUAGCAGCAAUGGAUACAAGUUGGUGUUGACAACCCGUGUGGAGCAAGUUUGUAAGUCUAUGGGCUGUAAGGUGAUAAAAGUGAAGCCCCUUUCAGAAGAAGAGGCAUUGAUACUAUUCUUGAGUGAAGUUGGACCUAACAUAGUGCAGAAUCAAACUUUAAUGCCAACUUUGAAGCUUGUUGUCAAGGAAUGUGCAGGUCUGCCUCUUACAAUUGUCGUCAUAGCUGGUACAUUGAGAGGAGAAGAUGACCCUCUUAUUUGGAAAAACACACUCAGGGAAUUGAAAGAGAGAAUAUGGAAAGUGAAAGAAGGGGAAGAUAAAGUGAUCGAGAGUUUGAAAGUUAGCUUCAAUCACUUAAAAGACGAGAAAAUGAAGCAUUGUUUCUUACAUUGCGCAUUAUAUCCUGAAGAUUUUCAAAUUGGGAAGGAUGGGCUAAUUGAGUGCUGGAUUGAAGAGGGAUUCAUAGAUGAUAUGAGUACAAGACAAGAAAUGAAAGAUAAGGGCCAUGUUAUUUUGAAGAAAUUAGAAGAUAAUUGCUUGUUGGAAAAUGUUUCGAGUGAAAGAGUAAAAAUGCAUGAUGCAGUGAGAGACAUGGCAUUGUCGAUCACAAGAAUGAAUCCUCGAUGUAUGAUACAAGCAGGUUCGCAAUUAGAAGAGUUACCAGAAAAGGUGCAGUGGAGUCCGGAUAUUGAGAAAGUGUCACUUAUGUAUAACUCCAUAUCAGAAAUUUCCACAGAUGUGCUGCCCACAAAAUGUCAACUGCUCACAACCUUGUUAUUGCAGCAUAACCCUAUAAAGAAGAUCCCGUAUUCUUUCUUCAUAAACAUGCCCUGUCUUUGUGUCCUAAAUUUGUCCUAUACGGUGAUCGAGAGUUUACCAAAUUCCAUCUCUGAACUAAAGAACCUCACAACAUUGUUGCUUUCUGGCUGUUCUGGAUUAAGAGAUCUGCCUUGUCUUUCGAUGCUUCAAGAAUUGAAGAAGUUGGAUCUUUCUGGGACUAUAAUUGAGGAAGUCCCUGAAGGAAUGGAUAUGCUGAUAAAGCUAAGAUAUCUUGAUCUUAGAGUGCGCACUCUGAAAGAGAUACCCGCUGGACUUUUACCAAAACUAGUUCACCUUCAGCACUUGGGUUUUUAUGAGAACAAUGAAAAAACAAGUCUAAAAGCAGAGGAGAUGGAACCAUUGAAGAAGUUGGAGUGCUUUACCGGACGUUUCGAAAACAUCAAUGAAUUCAAUAAGUUCAUCUCCUCAAUGCAACAAAGUAAGAAAAAUCUCAUCAAUUACCAUUUACAGGUGGGCUCAUAUAAUAGUGUGGAUUGUGAAAGGGGUAAAAGAGUAUCAAUUGGAGGAGUCCAGAAUUGGGAAGGUGAGUUAAUUAUGCACCCAAUUGAAAUUCAAGAGUUGAAUAUUGUAAAGUGCGACUAUUUGAGAAGCUUAGUCGAUGACAAUUCUUCCUUCAAAAAUGCGAUUGACUUGAGGGUUUGUUGGAUUUGGGGGUGUGAAGGGAUAGAGUGUGUUGUUUCCCUGUCCUCUUUUGCCUCUUCUUCCGCUCAUCCAUUUCAGAGCCUCGAGGUGUUGGGUCUUUAUGAUCUGCCAAAGUUGAGUGCCCUUAUUAUGAAAGAUGAAGGAAUUGGUUCAGCAACAACAUCAACAUUGGCUCCGUCUGCCACCUUUUCCCAUCUCAAGGAAAUUACGAUAUUCAAAUGCUCAAGGAUGAAGACGUUGCCUCCACAUUGGUUGCUUCCAAACCUCCAAAACCUGGAAGAAAUAUCAGUGUCACACUGUGAUAAGGUAGUAGAAAUAUUGGGAGCAGCACCAUCAGAAGUUGAAGAAAAAGGGAGUGAUGCAUUAAUCAAAUUCCAUCUUCCCAAAUUGAGACAAUUGAGACUACGUACGUUACCAAAUUUGAAGAGCAUUUGCAGCAAAAGUGGAGUCAUGGUUUGUGAUUCUCUCCAACUUAUCCUGAUUAUUAAUUGUCAUAAACUGAAGAGAAUUCCUCCAUUUGUUCCCCUUGUUGGGAAUGGGCAGCCAUUUGCAUAUGCUCCACCUUCUCUUACCAUCAGGUCAAGCACAAAAUGGUGGGAAUCGUUGGAGUGGGAUGACCAUCCAAACUUUAAAAAUGUUCUCAAGCAUGAAAGGUAGGAACCAUUUAUAGUUAGUUUAUUUUUUUUAUUUUUAUAAAUCUAAUUUCUCCAUUUUAAUAAAAUUUCAGAUGAAUUUGGUGAUGUUGUUGAAGAGAAAGAUAAAAGGGUUGGUGGGAAAGAAGUAGGGGGGAGGAUUGUGCAAAAGAGUGGAGAAAAGGAAUGAUGGAAGAGCAUGGAGACUGAGAAGCAAAGGUAAAUAAGAGAUCAAACUGUCUCCACUUUGUAAACAUUGUCCCUCUCUUACCAUUCCUUCUGUUCUCUUUUUCGUAUAAUGUAAAAGUUAUGUCAAGUAACUGAAGAGGUAAAAAACAAAUAAAUUUGCUUAAUAUUUUUUCUAUGUUUGUUUUGAAAGAAUGAGUAUUGAAUAUGGAUAAUAUAGAGAAAUUUUGUAGGGUUUAAAAAAAAGUAUCAAGAUGAAAAAAAAUAUAUAAUUUAAAUGUCAAUUGAUAAAUUAAGUGUAUUCAAAAUAAUGGUAUUUUAGAUAGCAAAGGUAUUGAAAAUUUAAAGUGAUAAAUUACCUUUUUAUCAUUAUAAAUAAAUACCAUAAUUUCUUUUUAUGCUGAAAAAAAAUUUGAAAAUUUAUGUUGUUUUCUUGAAAAUUUAUCAAUUUAUAUUGUUUUUUUACAAAUAGAAAGGAAAACGCGUCUUAUAUGACAUGUUUUCUCUGAUCUUCCAGAGAAAACAUGAGACGCGUUUUAUUAUCUUUCCUAAAAAGCGCUCUGUAAGAGCAACUAAGGACAAUGAAUCACGACGUUCAUGUCUUUCGUCAAUUGUGCAUAAUUUUGAUUGGUACAAUAACACAUUUAGCCCUUGAUGUUUACAUAUUUUGUUAGUUUGGUCUUGAUUCUAAAAAAAAAUCAACAAAUUCAGUCUCAACAUUUACACAUUUACAAAAAUAUGACGGGCUAAUUUUGUUAUCAUAUCAAUCAAAUUUAUGUAAAGUUGAUGAAAAACAUUAAUAUUGUGAUUAAUUGCUCACUUUCAAAAUUGGUAGGGAUUAAAUUGCUUCGAUUUUUUUGGAGGGAGCAAUUUGCUGAAUAUCAAAAUUGAGAGGCACUAGAGAGGUCAUUUUACCUAGUUUAAUAAUUAAAUGACAUGUUAAAUCUUAUGUGACAUAAUUUAAAAUGAAAAUUAAAAAAAUGUAGAAAUAGUUGUUUUAAAAAUCUAGGUUUUGAAGUUUUUACAAAAUUUUUAUUGUUCAUUUUUUUUAAAAUUUCAGUUUUAUUUAAUUUUAGUUUCUUUAAAAUUUUUAUUUUAAAAUUAGCUAUAUAAAAUUUAACGUGUCAUUUAAUGAUUUUAAUAAUAAAAUGAUAUGAUUAAUAUAACAUCAAUAGUUUAGAAAUGUAAUUAGAUCAGUUUGAAGUUUGAAAAUAGAUUUAAAAUAAUGGUCAAAAUUUAGGGGUGGUUGAUGUAAUUAACUCAUUUCUAAUGGUGCUAAUAAUUAAGUCUGCUAUAGGACAAAGUGAAAAAGUGGAAAGCAGAGUUAAAAUAUAAUUGCAUAAUAUAUGGAUGGGGCCAUUACCAAACGAUGAAGCAAAAGAAAUGAAGGGCCAUCAUACUUUUAUUUAGAAAUUUUAUAAAUUUUAGUUGUUAAACAUGUCAAGUAAUUUGAUUUGGUGUGGUGGUUAAGUGCCUUGAAUGUUUGCUUUGGGUCUUGGGUUCAAUUUUUUUGUUAAAUUUUUCCUAUUUAUAUUAUGUUGAACUUGAGCCUUAGGUCUUAUCUCUUAUUUUCAAUGAUGAAUCUGGUAAGAGUUUAGCUUAUCACCAAUUUAAAUUUUAUAAAAUCUGGUAAGUGGGAUUUAGAUUAACUUAAAUCUUUUUAUUUAAUUUUACUAAAUCUCUAUUUUCACUCAUUGUUUCAACCGUCCACACUCUCACCCCACUUUGUAUGCUACUUUCUUUUGUUUCCCUAUUCUGCCGUUUUAUCUUCUUUUCUCUUCCUCCUUUCUCCUCUUUGAUUAUUCCUGAAUACUACCAUUUAUUUUGUGAGUUCUGUCACUUGGAUUGUAUUCUGUUUGCAGUGUAAGUUUUAUUUGGUUACUUUUGUUCUCUUCCCAUUAAUAGUUUAGUUUUAUUUCGUUUCUUGAACAAGUUGAGUUUGUGUUGGUAUUUUCUGUUCAUUAUCAUGAUUAGUAUUUUUGUGGUUCUCGAUUAGGCGAAAGGUGUGAGAAUCCUAACCCUCCAGCAAAGUAGUCACAAUUUUUUACGUUGUUUUGGAGAACUAAGUAUUCGAAUUCUAUUUUAGGGGCUGAAAUUUUGAUUCAACGAUGUUAUUUUGGAUAAGUAUUGUUAGUUAAUCCGUGUGGUUUGAUGAACGUUUAUAGGAUUCGUGAGUUCCAAUAGAGCGGUUGAUCAAAUCAGCAAUAGGUGUAUGAAAUUAACCUGAAAACUCAAUCGAAACUCGAGAAAAUUAAGGGCCACACAACUAUGUGGGUAUUUUGGCCAAUUUUAAGCCCCAAUUAGGGGCCGAUUAAAGGACUCAAAUAUUAUUGGGUCCAUAGCAAUCAUAUAAGCCCAAAAAAAAAUGUAAGUUUUAGUAUAUAUAUACAUGGCUAAGCUUAGGAGGUAUGUUAAGUAGGUUGUAUACAAAUCAUAUGCUAUGUUAUGUUCCUUAUAAAAAUAUGUGUAUGCAUGUCAUAUGACUUAUGAUAUAUGUAUUUAUGAUAUUAUAAUUAUGAUUAUGCCUAUGUUUUGGGAUGGGUUAUGAUAUGAUGGAGGAAGUAUUAUAUGAUAGUUUUUACUACAACUAUGGCCACUAGACCAUAAAAUGUCUAUCUGACAGCUUAGUUGCAUAUUUAUGAGUGGCAUACCGUCACAUAUUGGUGUGAUUGGAUGGAUGGACUCUUAUAGUCCUAAUUGGUGAUAUUGCAUGGACGGAGAUGGCAUGUAGCAGUUGGAGGUAUGAUAUCAUAUUAUAUGAGAUAUGAUAGGAUAAGAUAAGAUAUGAAACAUGUUAUAACAUGAUAUGAAAAUCGAUAUGAUAUAAGAUGUGCUCCGAUAUGCUAUAAGAUGUGCUCCGAUAUGCUAUGAUACAUUCUGAUUUUUAUAUAUACGACGAUGUGUGGGUCAAAUCACAUACUGGAUGUUAAGCUCACACCUUUGUUAAUUCUGUUUUAGGUGAUCUUCAAAGUUAGGAUUGGAUGAUGACUAUAGAGCUCGUAUUUCACUCUUUCGGUUUAAGUAUGCAUUGGACUCUCUUUUGUAACUUUUUGGGCUUUUGGAUAUUUUAAAUUUAUUUGGGACGCUAAAAAUUAUUUUGGCAUUUAUUUUUCAAAAGUUUUAACUUUUACCGAUACUUAAAUCAAGACAACUAAAAAUAAACCAUAGUUAUAAGGUAAAUUUGCUAUAAUGCUUUCUGCUGCAAGUUUUAAGGUCAAUUUGCUAUAAUGCUGUCCGCUGCAAGUUUUAUUGAAAUUUGCUAAGAUGUUUUAUCUCACAAACAAAGUAAGUAAAUUAAAUGCAUUUUGGUAAAAUUAACAAAUAUUGCUUACUUCAAUGUAUUCACGGGUUUUCAAAAAUGGUACAUCUUCAACGGGUUAAUUAAACUUGUUUUCUUUUGAGUUAAAUAGUUUUUGCCAAAAUGAAGUAAUAUUGUUUUCACACGCAAUGUAAUCUCCACAAUCUGAUUAUAACAUUUAGGUCAUGUUUGGAUGUUAGAAUUAGAGCUUUAAAAAAUAAUUACUUUUUCUUUUAGAAGUUAAUGUCAUUGUAGGGUUUGAUGGGUUAUCUUCAACUUUAACAGUUAAGCUUCCAAAGUCGAUGAUCCUAUUUAAAUAUAUAAAAAAAAUUUAUAUUUAAAAGAUGUUCUUAUAAGGAAAAAAAGAUGUUAUUUAUGAUUGUUGCAUGCAAUUAUAUUAUUUUAUGAUUCGGGUUAUAUAUGAUUGUUGUCAUGACAUAAAAGUGUUUAAUUAAUAUUUUUAAAGUUUUAAAAAAUAAUAAUAAAUAUUUUUUAAUAAUUUUAAAAUUUAAAAGAUAAGUUAUAUCUAUUUUUAAAACCAUAAAAAUUAUUUAAAAACUAAUGUAUCAUCCGUAACAAAUCAUACAUCAUUAACACAUAUUGGGGCAUGGGAAAGCUUUUAAAAAUUUGAACUCAAAUAGUGCUCUACAUGGUUCAUCAAGGCAUGGCAAGUAAGCGAUAGUUGAUUGCCUGUAUUUCUCUCAUAAUUUGUCACUGCAAAAUCUACUACAUUUCAAAUUAACUGAUGUCAAGUAGAAAACUAAAGCAGAAGAGGAUCAAGUAUUUCCCUCACUAUCUGUUUCAAUGCUAAAAUUCCACCUCUCCUCUCCAACACCUCAUUGGUAGCCUUACUCAUCAUAACCAACACAACCCUUUCUUUUAUCUCGCCACAUAAAAGAAAUUCAAAAUAAUUUUUAAAUUUUUAUAAAUUUGCAAAAAUUUAUAUUUUAAAAAUUUCUAAAAAUAUAUAUAAAUAAAGUUGAAAUUUUAAAAUUUUCUGAAAUAAUAAUUUUAGCACUUACAUAAGUUAAUUAAUGAUUCAAAUUUAUCAAUAUUUAUUUAAGUUUUUUAAUAUAUAUGGUUUUAAAUCUAGAUGAAAUAUUUUAAUUUGACAUGUUUAAUUUUUUAAGUUAACUUAAACAAUUUCACUCUAUUUGAAUUUCAUUUCAUUCGAUUUGAUUUGAAAAAAUUUCAUCUCAAGUUAAGGUGAUAAAAUAAAACCUAUAAACUCGAUUAACUCAAAAUGUUUUCACUCAAUUGUGAGGUGAUUGAUCAUUUUAUUAGUAAAAAGACAUAUAAUUAUUCAUCUAAUAUUAUAACUAUUCAAACAGUAUAAUUCUUUUUAAAAAAUUAAGUGAUAUAAUUAUUGACCAAUGACCAAAAGAUUUAUCUUUAGAUUAAUUACAUCCAUUCAUUUAUAGUUAUUAUUAAAUAAAUAAUUAAAAAACUCCUAUCUAAUUUCAACAAUUAAAAAAAACUUUAAAUUAAAAUUAAAUUAUUAAGAUUCUAAUAAUAUAAAAAACUAAAUUGAAAUUUUUAAAAGGAUAUAUUAAAUAAAUUAAUAAUUUAUAAUUAGAUAAGAAAUAAAUAUUUUUUAUAAAAAAAUAAAAUACUUUAAUUUAAAAGGACAUUUUGGUCAAUCACUUUAAUAGUUUUUGUAGUGAUUAAAAGUUUAAUUGAUACCCCUAAACCAUAACUAAAAAGGAUGGAACCUUUUGCCAGAUUGCUAUUAGUUGUAACAAUCUAAUCUGUUGGCAUCCACCAUUAAUGAUUGAAUAUUGUAGCAAAGACCAUAACAAUUGACUUCCAAUUUUGGUUCUUUUUGUCUUGUUCUUCGUAAUUUUCUUACUGAGUUGGGACUCAAUUGAUGGUUGACGCAAACUCAGUAAAAGGCUUUAACACAGUAUAGAUUAAAAAAAGAUUUAAACUAAAAUUUUUAAAACAAUUUAGGUUAAAUUUAGUUAUUCAAUUAUAGGUAAGUUUUAAUUUUGGUUACUUAACUAAAAAAAUUACAAUUUGAUCACUAAUGCUUUCAAAAUUUUUUUUUUGUCACCUAACUGUUAAGUCAUACUUGUUUUAGUUGGUAUAAUAAUAAUUUCAGUCCUUAAUUUUUUAUAUUUUCUGUCAAUUUGACUCAAUUUUUGUAUAAAAUUAUAAAAAAAACUCAAAAUUAUUUAUAAAAUAGAAAAAUGUAUAUAAAAAUUCUAGAAAAAUAAAAUAUUGAAUAUGUUGUUUCAUAACUAAAUUGUAUGAGAAAUAAAGAAAAUCAUAGUUCAAUAACAUCCAAUAACAAAUUAAAAUCAAAAUAAAAGGAAAAAAAGGUUAAAUUAUUAUAUGUUUCCUGAAUAUUUCUCGAAAAAUAAUUAGGGGUUAAAAUUUACAUGCUUAAAUUAUUAACGAGUCUAUUUUCAAUAGAAACAAAUGGGAACUUCAUCCAAAUUUGUACUAAGAGGUAAUUAAUUUUUAGCAAAGAAUGGUCGAAGUUGUCAGACAAUAGAAUAGGGGUAAGUUUGAAGAUUUUACUGUACUUAUUGGCUAAACCAAAAAUUCUGAAAACUUUAUGGUAGAAAGGUAUCUGAGCCUAUUUCAAAGACAUCAAGUGGAUUUUAAUUCGAAAUUCUGUAGCUCAAGAUAUAAAUAAUUUAGUAGCAGUGACUCAAAUAGACAGUUUUAAAGGAACACAUAAGUAAAUAGUGAAAAACAUAUAUAAAUAUUUAGCUAGCACGAGUUACAUUAAAAAUGGAUCACGCGGCCAAAGCCAAUUUGGGCUGAGUAGGCCACAUGGGCGUGUGAGCCCAUUUUUCUGAAAAGUUCUGUAAGGUUGCACGGGUCGCCCAAGUCAAUUGUGGAUCUACUGUAGGGUCGAUAAGCUCUAUUUAGACCCCUAUAUGUGUGAUUUGUCUGACUGAUUUCUAUACUGAGCAUGACUAUUAAUUGCAUAAUUGCAUGACAUAUUUUGUAUGUUGCAUUGCAUCGGGGUGGGUUGAUGAUAUUUGGAGGAAGUGUCUGAAAGGCUAUUAAGCCUGUUAUCUGGCAGCAUAGCUACAACCUUUUGAUUAUAUGCUGCAUUUCGGUACAGCAUGGUGUGUAGGGAUGUGUGGCUUGAUUUAAUCCCCACAUGGUGUGUAGGGUUGGACGGAGAUGGUGUGUAGAGGCUAGUGGGUAGGAUUCUAAUUUACUGUAUCUGCAUUCUGUAUCUGAUAUGAGUCAAGGCCCUAAUGUAUUUUUGAGACUGUAUCUGAACGGGCUAAGGUCCAAACUGAUUCUGUUGAUUAUCUAUAUGCAUGUUUUAUGUGAGGAUUACACACUGAGUUUGCGAAAACUCACCAGCGGAGGACUCGACAGUGGCCACACGUAAAUUUCGGACUGUUUUCCGUUAAUGCAUAGAAUUUAUUACUUAUUUGAGGUUUUUGAUGUAUCUUCUGGACUAUGGAUUGGUUGGCUUUAAAUUUUGGGAUUUUAUACUAUUUUUUAUGGGUUUUUUUUUAAAUUACAACUCCACAAAACACGGUUUUUUUCUAAAAAAACUAAGGAUUUUCGUAAAUAGAAACGAUUUUCCCUAAAUUAAUUGGUUACAAAAGUUUCCGCUAAGAGACAAAUUUUAAAGCAAAUCAACAAGUUUUUUUUUCUGAAUUAAAUAAAAGCUAACUUACUGUAACGAUUUUUAAACUCGACAAUCUUGUCUUCAAAUCCCUUUCCAUGUGACAUCGCCAGAUUCGGCCAUAACGUCUAGGCCGAGUUUGGGGUGUUACAAAAUUAAUCAUACUUGAUUGGAUUAUGAGAGUGAAUUUUAAUGAAAGAUAAUAUGUGAAGAAAGAAGAGAAAUAAAAGGGAAAUUGUACCAAAAUAUAAAAAUAGAAAAACAAUGGCAGAUUGCUUCAAAUGCAAUAUACGCAAGAAUGUGCUAAAUUGUCUUUUUAAAUCCAAAGUGUGUAUUCAUGCCACAAUUAAAAACCUUUAUAUACCGAUCCCAGAGAAUCAAUUUCACAUGAUUUUACUCCUAGAAUCAUGCUUAACAAGCAACAACUAAAUCAAAAUUUUCUAAAUAUAGAAUUUGUCAAAGUAAAAAAUCUAAUAUUUUUUAUCAACCCAAAAAUAAUUUUGCAACUUUCAAUUCAACCCCCCAACUUGUUUUUUUUUCAAUUUAGCUCGAUCUGUUUGUUUUUGAACUUCGGCACUCCAAUUGUGUCCAUGAUAAAAUUCAGGCAAUAAAUCAUAAGUUUAGUAGAAUUCUAUUAAAAAGUUUACCAAAAUUGGGUAUAUUAAAUAUAUAAAAUUAGGUUGCUAUCAGAUUUGGAACUAAUUAAUAAUAACAUAUGAAAUAUGUAUUAUAUUAAAAUAAAAAUUAGAAUAAAUUGUGAGUAAAACGAAAUCUAAACAAAAAAACACAUCAGAUUAAAAAUACUAAAUGAAUACAAUUGUUUAUCAUUGUUUUGUCUUCAAUCCUGAGUUGGUGUUGUGUUUAUUUGUGACACUAAAUCAAUAACAUUUUUUAAUAAAUAAAAAAUUAGAAUACAUAUAUACUUAUUAAAGUUUAAAGUGAAAAGUAAAAAGUAAAAAUUGCUUUAGUUCAAAAGUAAAUGAAAAAUAUUUAUAUGCAUGGUGUCCUUAGUUCAAAUCUUGUAAUGGAUAAUUUUUUAUUGAUUUAUAAAUAUAUGAAAAGACGAAAAUACCCUCAUAAUCAUAUAUCUUACUUUGCAAAUAAAAUCUUGAAUAUAUUGUUGAAUGGCUAAAUUGUAUGAGAAAUAAAAGCAAUUAUCAUUCAAUAGAAUCCACUAUCAAUUUAAAAACAAAACAAAACCAAAUUAGUAAUAUUAUCAAGUUGAGUUUCAUGUCUUUGAAGCACAUCUAGAACUGAUAUAACAGAAGCUUAUGAAAUUGAGCUUGAUGCCAUUUUUUAGUAUCAAGAAUACAAAAUAUACCACAAAAUUUUAUUACAUUUAAAUUAGUAAUAUUAUUCACGUCUUACAAACAUCAUAUGUAAGAACAACUAUAUUUUUUUGCAGGAAGCCGACUAGUAUAUUUAAUUUCAACUUGUAACAUGUAAUUAGGCAUUCUUAUACCAUACUUUCCCAUUAUUAUGCUGCUGCUGCUGCUGAUGUUGUUGUUACAAUUGAGCACCAAGAUGACUGCAAAACUUGUUAGUAAUGUCCAGAAUGAAUGGAGGACAUGGCAGAUUAGUGAAUUAUUACAGAUUUAAAGAAAAAUCAAAUUGUAAAUCAGCUGAUAGAUACAACUGCUGAGAAUCAAAUACCCAAAAUGCCAACUAUAAUGGCAGAAGCAAAGGAAAAUUAAAAAAAGAAGGGAUUCCUUACUUAAUACUUCUGCCUUUCUACCCACAACAUUCUUUCUUCUUUCACAAAAUUUCAACCAUCCACUCUACCUACUUUUCUUUCAUUUGCUUCUUUCAUUACAUGCUUUUCUUUGCUUAAUAGUUCUGCCUUUCUACCCACAACAUUCUUUUUUCUUCACUGUUUUUAUUUUGUUUUCAUCUCCAAGGUCUAUCACCAAAUUUCAAGCAUCCCGUCAAAGGUAAUUUUCUUUCAUUUGCGUCAUUCAUGACAUGCUUUUCUUUGCUUCAUUCAUGACUAUGCAAUGAUUGUUUUUUAUUAUCUGCUAGCUUUGUAAAAUAGUCAAGUCAACUUCACUGCUUCAUUUUCAGUUCCAAUCUCUCGACACAUUUCAGCCACUAAGUCAGGUAAAAAGGUAAUGAUUUCCUCUACUGAUUAUCAACAGUUUUAGAUUUUAAGACAGUAUAGGAUGACCGGCAAACAUAAUCUAGCAUAGAUAGGAAUCUCAAACUGUUGAACAUUUUAGCUCUUAAUAUUCCGUAAUGAACUGUUGCACACUUGAAUCUAGCAUUUUAUAUACAUUGAGAGGUUAACUCUGGUGACCAGAUUUUCAUCAUGUUUCUGUCUGCCACCUAUCCAUACCUCCAUCUAAUAAAGGCCAUUGCAUUUAUGCUUCCUUUUCAUGCUUACACUAACAUAUAAAAAAUUAUUCAAAAAUCCAAUACACUAACAUAUAUGAUUGCGUUGCAAGGGCAGAGCAAUGGAAUACGUAGAGCCUGUUGUUGGCAUUGCAAAUUGUCUUGGACCUUCUAUUUGUAAAUACUUGAAAUAUCAUAGAAAGCUGAAUGAUUAUGUGAGAAACUUCGAGAGGAUCAGAGAUGAAUUGCAUUGUAAAAUGGAAGACGUAGAGAUGCAAUUGAAAGCAGAGCUUCUUUCUCCUGGGGGAAGAUACCAAAGCAGGGAGUUGAAAAUUGGUUGAAAGAUGCAAAAGAGAUGAUUGCGGAAGCACAGGAUGUGGAAAAUAAAGUCAGAAAUGGGAGAUAUCUCUGUCGUGCUUGGAACGGAAAGCUGGUUGAUGAAAAGACUCGAGAAAUGAAGGAGUUUCUUGAUAAAGCUCUUAAUGCCUCUGAAGGUCUUGCCAUGGUUGGUCCAAGUACUGGGUUGCCACUGCCAACAUCAGAACUAGUUGGGGAGGAAGCUGCCAAAGAAGAGAUUUGGGCAUGUUUGAUGCAAAAGGAGUUAAAAAAGAUUGGGGUUUGGGGGAUGGGCGGUGUGGGUAAAACCACGAUCAUGAAGCACAUCCACAAUGAUCUUUUGAAAGAACAAAGAUUCAAAAGAGUAAUCUGGGUUACCAUAUCAAAGGAGUUCAAUGUAAUGAAGGUACAAGAUAAUAUUGCAAGUGCGUUAGAGGCAAAGGAAUAUUUAGACAAAGAAGAGGACAAGCUCAGACGAGCAGCAAUCUUGUCAGAAAUGCUGAAGAAAGAAGGAAAGCAUGUUCUAAUCCUAGAUGAUGUGUGGGAUGAAGUCUCUCUAGAAGAAGUUGGGAUCCCUGAGCCGAGUGACAGCAAUGGCUGCAAGUUGGUGUUGACAACCCGUUCGGAGCAUGUCUGUAAGUAUAUGGGUUGCACGGUGAUAAAAGUGAAGCCCCUUUCAGCACAACAGGCAUUGACAUUAUUCUUGAGUAAAGUUGGGCCUAAGAUAGUGCAAAAUCAAACUAUAAUGCCUACUCUAAAGCUUGUUGUCAAGGAAUGUGCGGGUCUACCUCUUACAAUUAUCGUCGUAGCUGGUACAUUGAAAGGAGAAGAGGACCCUCUUAUUUGGAAAAACGCACUCAGGGAAUUGAAAGAGAGAAUAGAAAAAGUGGAAGGAGUGGAAGCUAAAGUGAUAGAGCGUUUGAAAUUUAGCUUCGAUCACUUAAAGGAUGAGAAAGUGAAGUCUUGUUUCUUACAUUGCGCAUUAUAUCCCGAAGAUUUUCAAAUUGAAAAGGAUGAACUAAUUGAGUGCUGGAUUGACGAGGGAUUCAUAGAUGAUAUGGGUACAAGACAAGAAAUGAAUGACAAGGGUCAAGUUAUUUUGAAGAAGUUGGAAGAUAAUUGCUUGUUGGAAAAUGUCUCGCGUAAAAGAGUAAAAAUGCAUGAUACAGUGAGAGAGAUGGCAUUGUCGAUCACAAGAAUGAAUCCUCGAUAUAUGAUACAAGCAGGUUUGCAAUUAGAAGAGUUACCAGAAAAGGAGCAAUGGAGUCCGGAUAUUGAGAAAGUGUCACUUAUGUAUAACUCCAUAUCAGAAAUUUCCAUAGAUGUGCUGCCCACAAAAUGUCAACUGCUCACAACCUUGUUAUUGCAGCAUAACCCUAUAAAGAAGAUUCCAUAUUCUUUCUUCAUAAACAUGCCUUGUCUUUGUGUCCUAAAUUUGUCCUAUACAGAGAUCGAGAGUUUACCAAAUUCCAUCUCUGAACUAAAGAACCUCACAACAUUGUUGCUUUGUUGUUGUUAUGAAUUAAGAGAUCUACCAUGUCUUUCGAUGCUUCAAGAAUUGAAGAAGUUGGAUCUAAGUUGGACUAAAAUUGAGGAAGUCCCUGAAGGCAUGGAUAUGUUGAUAAAGCUAAGAUAUCUUGAUCUUAGAGUGCGCACUCUGAAAGAGAUACCCGCUGGACUUUUACCAAAACUCGUUCACCUUCAGCACUUGGGUUUUUAUGAGAACAAUGAAAAAACAAGUCUAAAAGCAGAGGAGUUGGAACCAUUGAAGAAGUUGGAGUACUUUACCGGACGUUUCGAAGACAUCAAUGAAUUCAAUAAGUUCAUUUCCUCAAUGCAACAAAGUAAGAAAAAUCUCAUCAAGUACCAUUUACAGGUGGGCUCAUCUUUUAUGCUUGCUACAAUAGAUAAAACAGUAACAAUUGGAGGAGUCCAGAAUUGGGAAGGUGAGUCAAUUAUGCACCCAAUUGAAAUUCAACAGUUGAAUAUUUCAAGUUGCAACUAUUUGAGAAACUUAGUCGAUGAUAAUUCUUCCUUCAAAAAUGUGAUUGGCUUGAGGGUUUGGGUUUGUGAAGGGAUAGAGUGUGUUGUUUCCCUGUCCUCUUUUGCCUCUUCUUCCACUCAUCCAUUUCAAAGCCUCGAGGUGUUAGAUCUUGGAGAUCUGCCAAAAUUGAGUGCCCUUAUUAUGAAAGAUACAGGAAUUCGUUCAGCAACAACAUCAACAUCGGCUCCGUCUGCCACAUUUUCUCAUCUUAAGGAAAUUAGGAUAUACAAAUGCUCAGGUAUGAAGACGUUGCUUCCACAUUGGUUGCUUCCAAACCUCCAAAACCUGGAACUAAUUUCUGUGGCAGAUUAUGAUGAGUUAGUAGAAAUAUUGGGAGCAGCAACAUCGGAAGUUGAAGAAAAAGGGAGUGAUGCAUUAAUCAAAUUCCAUCUUCCCAAAUUGAGACAGUUGACACUCUGGGAAUUACCAAAUUUGAAGAUCAUAUGCAGCAAAAGUGGAGUGAUGGUUUGUGAUUCUCUCCAACUUAUCCAUAUUACUAGAUGUGAUAAACUGAAGAGAAUUCCUCCAUUUGUUCCCCUUGUUGGCAAUGGGCAGCCAUUUGCAUAUGCUCCACCUUCUCGUACCAUCACGUCAAGGAAAGAAUGGUGGGAAUCGUUGGAGUGGGAUGACCAUCCAAACUUUAAAAAUGUUCUUCAACCCCUUUGGUGGUGAUGUUGAAGAGAAAGAUAAAAGGGUUUGUAGGAAAGGAGGAAGGAUAGUGCAAAAGAGAGGAGAAAAGGAAUGAUGGAAGGAAGAGGUUAAGAGACACCACAUUGUAAACAUUGUCCCUCUCUUACCAUUCCUUCUUUUCUCUUUUUCUUAUAAUGUACAAGCUGAAGAGGUAAGAAAACAAAUAAAUUUGCUUCAUAUUUUUUCUAUGUUUGUUUUGAAAGAAAGAGAAAUAUGGUAGGGUUUAAAAAUAAAAUAUAAUUUAAAUAUCAAUUGAUAAAUUAAGUCUAUUCAAAAUAAUGGUAUUUUAGGUAGCAAAGGUAUAGAAAAUUUAAAGUGAUAAAUUACCUUUUUUUUCAUUAUAAAUAAAUACCAUAAUUUCUUUUUAUGCUGAAAAUUUUUUUGAAAAUUUAUCAAUUUAUAUUGUUUUUUACAAAUAGAAAGGAAAACGCGUCUUAUAGGACAUGUUUUCUCCGAUCUUCCAGAGAAAACAUGAGACACGUUUUAUUCUCUUUCCUAAAAAGCGCUUUGUAGGAGCAACUAAGGACAAUUAAUCACGACGUUCAUGUGUUUCGUCAAUUGUGCAUAAUUUUGAUUGGUAAAAUAACACAUUUAGCCCUUGAUGUUUACAUAUUUUGUUAGUUUGGUCUUGAUUCUAAAAAAAAUUCAACAAAUUCAGUCUCAACAUUUACACAUAUACAAAAAUAUGACAAGCUAAAUUUGUUAUCAUAUCAAUCAAAUUUAUGUAAAAUUGAUGAAAAACAUUAAUAUUGUGAUUAAUUGCUCACUUUUGAAAUUGGUAGGGAUUAAAUUGCUUCGAUUUGUUUAGAGGGCCCAAGUUGCCGAAUAUCAAAAUUGAAAGGGACUAGAGAGGUAGUUUUACCUAGUUUAAUAAUUAAAUGACAUGUUAAAUCUUAUGUGACAUAAUUUAAAAUGAAAAUUAAAAAAAAAAGGAAGAUUGUAAAAAUAGUUGUUAUAAAAAUCAUGGUUUUGAAGUUUUUACAAAUUUUUUAUUGUUCAUUUUUUUUUAAUUUCAGUUUUAUUUAAUUUUAGUUUGUUUAAAAUUUUCAUUUUAAAAUUAGCUAUAUAAAAUUUAACGUGUCAUUUAAUGAUUUUAAUAGUAAAAUGACAUGAUUAAUAUAACAUCAAUAGUUUAGAAAUGUAAUUAGAUAAGUUUGAAGUUUGAAAAUAGAUUUAAAAUAAUGGUCAUAAUUUAGGGGUGGUUGAUUUAAUUAACUCAUUUCUAAUGGUACUAAUAAUUAAGUCUGCUAUAGGACAAAGUGAAAAAGUGGAAAGCAGAGUUAAAAUAUGACUCAAAGACUCACCUUUUUCUAAGUUUGCCAUUACCAAACGAUGAAGCAAAAGAAAUGAAGGGCCAUUACCAGAAUUUCAUCAUGUUUCUGUCUGCCACCAAUCCAUAGCUCCAUCUAAUAAACGCCAUAGCUCCAUCUAAUAAACGCCAUUGCUUGAAACUUGCAUUCAUGUUUCACUUGCAAUCAUUUUCGUGUCCACCUUCAACCAUCAGCCAUCACUCACCAUUGCUUAAGCUAUUUUGCAUUUUAGACCAUAAAUUACUGAGUUGAAAACUAUAGUGUCGUUCUGCAGCCUUUUUUGGUCCAGGCAGGGCAGGCUGGGCUCAAAAAUUUGGGUCGACCUUGAAUAAAACAUUUAAUCCCAUAUUUCAUAUUAGGCCAAGCUUGAGCAAAAAUAACAGUUAGCAAUACCUUGUCUAAGCCUGAGCCAAAUCCGGCCCAUGAGAUAAAGCAUUCAGAUUGAACUACCGGUAACAUUAUGAGUUUUUGGUCCAUCCUUCAUGGGGAUGCAAAGAACAAAAUUAACUAACUUUUGCCACUAUAGAAUGUUUGUUCAACUAAAUAAAAUAAAGAUUGCCCUAUAACUCUAGUUCCAUUCAAGUAAAAACUUCUUCAGGCAAGAUAAUAGUAACAUAAUGCUAAAAGAACCAGCACAACCACCCCAGCAGGAGCUGCCCAUAUCCAAUAGUUCAUCGACUUGGUUCUUUUGGUUCGAUUCCUGUACCUACUAGUAUUCUCCUUUAGUACUUUACCCUUCAUUGAAACGGUAGCAGGAACAGGUGCAUCAGUAUUAACAUCGACCUUCUCGGGUUCUGAAUCUUGUGCCACAGCUUCAAUCAGUUCUUCGAGAUUCACAGCAUUUGUCGAUCCUGCCACCUUCUUCUUAGCUCUCUUUUCACGCUCCUGAAAAAAAGAUCGAAAGAGUUUCAGUUUCAACCCACAAACUAAUAACUGAUAAAGCGAAACUAGAUAAGGAAGCAAAUGAUUUCCUUGAGCUUCUUUUCAGCUUCCAUUUAAGCUCUUCUAGCUGCUUUGGCUGCUGCUUUUUCAGCCAACUUCUUUUUUCUUUCCAUAGCUUACUUUGCUUUUGCUAUUUCCUCUUCUCUCUUCAAUUCUUUCAGUUUUGCUGCAUCGACUUCCUUGUUCUUUUGCAAUUUUUCGGAUACCAAAAUUUCCUCUGCUACAACACUAAUAUCUGACAAAGGAUUCGACUCCAUUGCUAUAGUCUCGACAUGUUUUGGGGCCUUUUUUGCUAGUUUCGUAUCUGUUUGGGGACUUGAUUUGGCCUCUUCCUUUGGUUAUCUUACACUAGGUCUCAGAAUUGUUUCGGUUUCAGAAUCCACUAGUUUCUCGGGUGCAACCAGUGGUUUCUCAUCAAGAUUCCUUAUUCGACCAUCCCGACUCAAUAGCCGACUGUCCAGGGAUGGCAAAAUUUUUUUCUCAUAAUCAUCCCUAAAGGCUUUAUUGCCAUUCCAGAGAGCCAUAACCUUCUCAACCUAAAAUUAUAAAGCAAAUGAGAUACAUUGGAAGUAACAUUAACAAGCAGUCUCAACAAACCUCCACAAUUGAUAACUCCUCAAGAGCCUUUAUAUCUUUCUGUGCAGCAAGUAAUUUGGCGUUGUGUACAAUGGUACGACUCUGGUAAAAGUGAGAAUUCUGAAAUUUUGAGAAAGAAAGUAAUUAAAAUGAUUCAUUAGUAACAUCAUGCACAGGAAUAUUGGAAGAAGACAUAAUAUGUAUCAUUUAAUAUCUUAAGUGAUACUAGUUAUCCAUGCAUAAAUGAAAAUGUUCCGACAUGGUCAAGUAUUAUACGAAACAGAUAUCUUAAGAGUUGAAGCAAAGAAAAGGCGAUACCCCCUGAUCACUUUGUUUCCUCAACUCCUAAAUGUUUUCAAAAGCUUUGUGCCUCUUCAGGGUCACAGCUUUCAGCUCAUUUUGUAAAGUGUUGAAUGUAGUUCCCAUGCAAGAUGCUUCCCAUGCAAAGGUGGCCAUGCAAGAAACAAAGGAGCAGCAAUCAGUCGAGCCACGGUGUGCAGCAACUGGAGCUGAAGCUGUCGAACCACUUGCUGUUUUUAGUUGCAUUUUGAUUAUUUUGUAAUCUAGUUCAUGUUGAACUAAGUAGGUGGAUGUUUUGAUGUAAUUAGGUGCUGAAUGACAAGUUUAGGUGACUUGUUAUGAGUGUUCAAACAAGUUUACCAAGUUACUAGGCAAAUUAGUGGUGUUAGGUAUAUUAUUAGGUGAUAACUUGUUUGUUUUGUUUUGUUAACUCUUAUAUGUAUUGGCAUUAUGCCUCUUUUAAUAGUUAAUGAAAAUUUAGCUCAUUUUUAUUCAAAUUUUAUCUCUUUCAUUCUCUAUUUUCUGUUGCAAAUUUUUCUUUCUUCUUCUGUUGUUUUUGCUGCAAGCCUCGAGGCUUGCUGUCCAAGCAAAGCUGAAAUCAGCUUGCUGCUGCCUCUUGCACCAACAAUUGGUAUCUAGAGCUCUUAUCUUAGUGGACCUGUUGCUUCAAACCAAGGAAUCUGAUGGCUUCUUCAGGAUUUUCACCAGCAGCCCCACUAGUCUUCAAUGGAGAAGGCUUCCACAUAUGGCUGGUAAAGAUGAAGACUUACCUGCAGGCCUUUGAUCUGUGGGAAGUUGUCAACACAGAUUCUGAGCCAGCACCACUGAGGGCCAAUCCCACAGUAGCUCAGAUCAGGCAACAUGCUGAUGAGAGGACCAAAAGGCAUAAAGCCAUGUCCUGCAUUCAGAACUGUGUGUCAGAUGUCAUCUUCACCAGAAUUAUGGCCUGUGAGACUCCAAAACAGGCCUGGGACAAGCUUAAGGAGGAGUUUCAAGGCACUGAGAGGACAAGGCAACAGCAGCUGUUGAAUUUGAGAAGGGAUUUCGAGAAUCUGAAGAUGAAGGAAGAAGAAACAGUGAAGCAGUAUGCAGAUAGAACCAUGGCAAUGGUUAACAGUAUAAGGCUCCUUGGUGAGCACUUUGAUGAGGCAGGAAUAGUGGAGAAAGUCCUCUCCACUUUGCCUGAGAGAUAUGAGGCCAAAAUAUCCUCUCUAUAGGACUCAAGAGAUCUGGCUAGCAUCUCUUUGACUGAACUGAUUAACACCUUCUAUGCUUAGGAACAAAGGAGAGCCAGUAGAGCUGAAGAUCACCAGGAAGGUGCAUUUCAAGCCAAGGCAAGAGAGGCCUCGAGCACCAAUGCUCAAAGAGGCAAAAAGCCUUGGAAAAGUAGGCCCAAGUCUAAUGCUGCAAGGAGCAAUGACCAGCCCUGCAGACAUUGCAAGAGGCCAGGCCAUCCAGAAGACAGAUGUUGGUUCAGGCCAAAUGCAGUAUGUCAACACUACAAGAAGAAAGGCCAUGUUGAAAGGGUUUGCAAAAAAAAAACCAAGCCGAGGCAGAGUCAAUAUCAACAACCAAAGGUUGAAGCUCGAGUAGCUGAGGACAGUAGUGACCAAGAAGAGCAGGUCUUUGCUGUUUCUUGCUUAGCUGCUGAGAAAAAAUGUUCAAAAGGCUGGUUAUUGGACAGUGGUUGCACUAACCACAUGUCACCAGAUGCUUCCUUGUUUAAAAUCUUGGAUAGAAGUUGCAAAACCAAUGUCAAGGUUGGAAAUGGUCAGUUCAUAAGGGAUGAAGGAAGAGGAGAGGUGCUGAUAUGUACUCCUACAGGCAAAAAGGUCAUUCCAAAUGUGCUUUUGGUACCUGAAAUUGACGGAAACCUUCUCAGCAUAACUCAACUGCUUGAGAAGGGCUAUUCCGUUGUGUUCAAGGAUAAAAAGUGUCAGAUUGCUGAUCUAAGUGGAUCAAGCCUUAUGACAGUCACAAUGACUGAUAAAUGCUUUGAAGUUCAUUGGCCAAAUGACUCAAAGUCAGCAUACACAGCCUCUGUUGAUGAUUCCAAGCUUUGGCAUCAAAGGCUCGGGCAUGCCAACUUUAAAUCAAUGGCUCGAAUGGCCAAAGAGGGCUUGGCAGAGAACUUCACCGCUCAGUGGAGCAUGAUGAUGUGUGUGAAGUGUGCCAAAUGGGAAAACAGGAAAGACUGCCAUUUCCCACAAAUUCAGCAUGGAGAGCCAUUGAAAAACUGCAGCUGGUGCACUCUGAUGUAUGUGGCCCAAUGAGGACUGAAUCACUCAGCAAAAACAGGUAUUUCAUCCUCUUCAUUUAUGAUUUUACAAGGUUUUGCUGGAUUUUUUUCUUGAAACACAAGUCUGAGGUAGCUCAAGUGUUUGUGAAGUUUAAAAUGGCCGUUGAGACAGAAACAGGUUGCAAGCUGAAAUCGAUAAGGUCAGACAAUGGCACUGAGUACACUUCAGCUCAGUUUCAAGCCAUUUGCAAUGAUGCUGGCAUCAAACACCAGCUUACAAAUGUCUACACACCUCAGCAGAAUGGGGUAUCUGAAAUAAAGAACAGAAGUCUGAUGGAUAUGGCCAGGUGUCUGUUGUUUGAGAAGAAACUGCCCAAGAUCAUGUGGGCUGAGGCAGUAAACACUGCUGUCUACCUUCAAAAUAGGCUUCCUACCAAAGCUCUUGCUUCCAAGACACCUUUCGAGGCUUGGUUUGGAUUCAAGCCUUCCUUAGCACACCUGAAUGUGUUUGAUUGCCUGUGUUAUGCACAAAUACCAGCAGCAAAGAGGGACAAGCUCUCUGAAAGGGCUCAACCCGGUGUUCUAGUGGGCUAUAGCUUAGUCAAGAAGGGCUACAGGGUUCUGGAUCCCUUGACAAGCAAAGUCCAGGUAAGCAGAGAUGUCAUCUUUAAUGAAAAGGCUUGCUGGAAUUGGGAAAAGAGUGAACCAGAAGCUAUUUUAGAAGACCUGGUGCCUAAUCAAGCUGAACUCGAGCAGCUUGGUCCUGAGAUGGAUGUUGAUGAUGUGCCUGUGAGAGGUACAAGGCCUCUAGAUGAGAUUUAUGAAAGGGCACAGGUUGCUAUAGCAGAACCUAGCAGUUUUGAAGAAGCUGAGGCAAAUGAAGGCUGGAAACAGGCCAUGGUUGAUGAAAUCAACAUGAUUCAAAAGAAGUAGACAUGGGAGCUAGUUGACAAGCCUGUUGGAAAAAAGACCAUUGGAGUAAAAUGGGUCUAUCGAGCAAAACAAAAUGCUGAUGGCAGUCUAAACAAGCUAAAAGCCAGGCUUGUUGUCAAAGGAUUUAGCCAAAGGUAUGGUAUGGACUACCUAGAGACUUUUGCACCAGUAGCCAGGCUUGACAUAGUCAGAAUGAUAGUUGCCUUAGCUGCUCAACAUCAGUGGACCAUUCAUCAGCUUAAUGUGAAGUCUGCAUUUCUCAAUGGUUUCCUGGAAGAAAAGAUCUACAUCGAGAAGCCUCAAGGGUUUGUGAUCACUGGCAAAGAACACAUGGUGUACAGGCUAAAAAAGGCCUUGCAUGGCCUGAAGCAGGCUCCUCGAGCCUGGUAUGCUCGAAUUGAUUCCUACUUGCUCAGUUUGGAGUUUGAGAGAAGUGCCAGUGAACCAACACUGUAUGUGAAGAAAAAUCAAGCUGAGACUCAGCUUAUCCUGUCACUCUAUGUUGAUGAUUUGUUGGUAACUGGAGGAGACAAGAACAUGUUGCAUGAUUUCAAGAGGAAAAUGAUGAAGAUGUUUGAGAUGUCUGAUCUAGGCAGAAUGAACUACUUCCUAGGAAUGGAAGUGAAGCAAACAGCAAAUGGAAUCUUCCUCAGCCAGAGUUCAUUUGCUAUGAAGGUCUUAAACAAGUUCUCGAUGAAGAACUGCAAGCCAACAAGCACACCAAUGGCUGUUGGAAUGAAGCUAUCGAAACAAGAAACUGGUGAACCAGUUUGUGAGACUAUGUACAAGAGUCUCAUUGGUAGUCUACUGUAUUUGACUGCAACAAGGCCCGAUAUCGUGUUUACAGUUAGUGUGCUAUCCAGAUACAUGAAUUGCUACAACAAUCAGCACUUUCAAGCAGCUAAAAGAGUACUGAGAUACAUCAAAGGCACCAUUGAUCAUGGUGUGUUGUUCAAAAGGGUUGAAAACAUGAAGUUAACAGGUUAUGUCGAUAGUGAUUGGGUUGGAUUGUGUGAUGACAUGAGAAGUACAUCCGGAUAUGCAUUCAGCCUUGCUGGAGCUUCAAGAAGUACAUCUGGCCUAAUGAAUCUUGAAUCUUUGAUCUCAUUGCAGCAUUAGCAAUAACUUUCUCGCGGGAUCCCUCCAGGUGUUUGAUUUCUUUAAGGAUUCGCUUCUCCUCACUCAACGAGAUGCUUUCAUGCUGAAUGCGAUAUUGCAAGCUAUGGAUCUGCAAUUCAUAAAUUCCAUUGAAGUGACUAAAGGAGAAAAAGAAAAGCAUUAACUGCGGCAGCAAACAAUGAAUAAAUCUAAAUGCAGUCAAAGUUUAUAGAAGUAUCAUACAAUAAAAUCGAGCUCUUCCUGAGAUGCACAUAAACUAAGUCGAUUAUUAACAUUUUUAUUAUUGCGAAGCUUGCCCAAAGCCUACUGCAGUGGUUCUAUUUCCUUUUUUUUCUCAUCUAAAAUCGUCUUAAAUUGCUCAAAAUCAACAUUCAGCGCUCCCACUUGCGAAAGCAUCUCUGAUCGUUCUGCCUGCAUUAGCAUAAAGAUAAUCACAAUUUAGCCAACUGACAGCGCCAUUAUUUUUUACUUCUUUCACAUUUUUUCUCAAAUUCUGAAGGAAACACAACAAUAACGAAUCAUUAUACCAAUAGCAUAUCUGUAAGUGUCAUUACUUUUCAAGGACAUAAAUUUCAAACAUUCAAAUAAAUACAAAUAGUAACAAUUUAGGGUCAAAAUGUAAAUUUUCAAUUUUUGUAUUUUUUUGAUUUGUUUAUUAUUAUUCUACUAUUAUUAAUAUAUCAUAAAAAUAAAAAAAAUAAAAACACUAAUGGGCUAAAACCCAAACAAGUCCAAAAUUAAACCCAAGUAUACAAUCACAACGGGCCCAAUCAUUUUGCCCAGCCCAAACCCGUAAUUUGGAAAAAAAAUUAAAACACGAAAUCUGAACCGGACAAAAUUUAGUGAUUACAAGUACCCCUCUUUGCUCAUCACUAUGAAACAGGAAUAGAGUAAAAACUUAAAAGCACUGAAUUUUGUUCUAUUAUCCAAUUGUUUUUUCAAAGGAACUUGACUCAUGAUGCAAUUUUGAAAGUAACGAUUACUUCGGAAAAAAAUCCACUUGACAACGAAUUGGAAAUUAAAAUACCUCGGCAAGUAAUAAAAACUGAAAUGGAUUUGGAUGGAACCAAAACUUUGAAAACAAAUAAAAGAGUGAAAUUUAAAAUACCUCGGCGUGCAACCCGGGGCUCAACUCACCUCUCGGAUUAUAAGUUGAUCUUUAAAAAACAACAAUUGAAAAUACGUUAGUGUGCGACCCUAGGCUCAACUCACUUCUCGGAUUAUGAGUUGAUUUUCAAAAAAUAGAAAUUAAAAAUACCUCAACGUGCGACCCGAGGCUCAACUCACCUAUCAGAUUAUGAGUUGAUUUUUGAAAAAUAGAAACUGAAAAAUACCUCAGCGUGCGACCCGAGGCUUAGCUCACCUCUCAGAUUAUGAGUUGAUUUUUGAAAAAUAGAAAUUGAAAAAUACCUCAACGUAUGACCUAAGGCUCAACUCACUUCUCGGAUUAUGAGUUGAUUUUUGAAAAAUAGAAAUUGAAAAUACAUCAGUGUAUGACCCGAGGCUCAACUAACUUAUCAAAUUAUGAGUUAAUUUUUGAAAAACAGAACUUGAAAAAUACCUCAACAUGCGACCUGAGGCUCGACUCACUUCUUGGAUUAUGAGUUUAUUUUUAAAAAAGAGAAAUUGAUAAAUACCUCAACGUGCGACCCAAGGCUCAACUCUCUUCUUGGAUUAUGAAUUGAUUUUUGACAAACAGAAAGGAAAUUAUUCUUGAAAGAGUCAGAGUUUCGAAAAAGAUUAUCAUGUGAAACUCAAAAGCCUUCUUUUUCAUUGAUUCAGUGUAGCUGCCACCAAAGUCUCUUGCUCUACUAGAAUGCCUGUAUAUGUCAUGUAUGAUGUUAUUAUGAUAUGCACGUGUUUGUCGUAAAUGUUUUUAUGCCUACAUGAUCAUGCCAUGCACCUGGACUGUUUGUCACGUGCCCUUUUUUGGUCAUGAUUUUCGUGAGGGUCCACAUUCAUUGCCUCAAUCCUUGACUUUUCUCUCAGAUUUUGUACUUCUCCUCAAGUUCUUGUCAUUAACCCACAUUUCUUCGUAUAUUGCCCUCUUGCCCCCUGUUAAACAUUGCUUUUGCUUCGAAGUCUUCGAUCUUUAAUACUAACACAUCGAGAUAUAUUUGAUGCAUAUGUAUCUAGAACAUUUAUAUCCUUCAACACCAUGCAGAACACUUCUUUCUCUAUAUUUAACAUUGAAAAAAAUAGAAGGCGGCAACCGAUAUUUCCCAUUCGAAAGUGCUUGGGGAUGAAGAAUUUGUCGAAUUCCCAUGUGGACUAAAUCAAGUCAACUCUGAAAAUUAUCUUUCGAUUUUCCAUUGACAUUCAAAAUUGUCCCGAUGAUGUUCUCGCAAACAUUUUUCUCAAUGUGCAUGACAUCAAGAUUGUAGCGUAAAAUGUGAUGCUCCUAAUAAGGCAACUCAAAAAAAUACUUCUUUUUUUCCACAAGUCUGUCUCAUUAGGAUCAUCCUCUUCAUCAGAUUCAUCAUUUGAUCUUCUAUUUCUUUGUGUGUUCGGCAGUUGGUUCAUCAGAUUUUAUUUUUUUACUUCUAUUUUUCCAGAAGUUUCGGUACUAAUUUACUUCUGUUGACUUCUGUUUUGUUUACUUUUGUUUUUUUACUUCUGUUUUUUCGGUACUAAUUUACUUCUGUCUUUUUUUUCCAGAAGUUUGCUUUGAAAUUGAGGAAAUUUAAUGUAUUUAUUCCUAUGUUUCCCUAAUUAGUUUUCUUAAAAAAAACAUCUCCAAUUGUUUAAAUUUUUGUAUGGUUAUGUUUUAGCUUUAUAGUUUAAUUAUUAUUUUUGAGUUUUAAAAAGGAGUUUUAAUUACCAUUUUAGCUUUAAAACCUCUAACUAUCGAUUUUAAUUAUCAUUUUUGCUUUAUAUGUUUCUAGCUCAAUUUGCACGUAACUUCUAGAAAUUUGAGUCAAAGAUCUCUUCACUUGAGGACUCGAGAGAUUUAUCAGCUAUCUCACUGUCUGACCUGAUAAACUCUUUGUUUGCACUUGAGCAAAGGAGAGCAAAUAGGCACGAAUAACAACCUGAAGGUGCUUUCCAAGCAAAAGCCAAUGUAGGCUCAAGUCCAAAUUUGAAAGGCAAGAAGCCCUGGCACAACAGAAGAGACAAACCAAGAAGAGAUGAAGGAAAAGGGGUGUUUCCACCAUGCACUCACUACAAGGAGCCAACACAUUCAGAGAGGUAUUGCUGGUAUAGGCCAGACAUUCAAUGCAAGAAAUAUAAACAGUUUGGCCAUGUGGAGAAAAUGUGCAAAGGCAAGGGAAAGGAGGAUGCUCAGCAACAAGCUCGACCUGCUGAGGACCUUCAAGCUUAGAAGGAGCAUGUGUUCACAGCAUCCUGUUUUGUCAGCACAACAAAGGCCAAAAGUGAUUGGUUAGUGGACAGUGGCUGCUCACACCACAUGGCAGCUGAUGAAAGGCUGUUUAAGGACCUAGACAGAAGCUUUACCUUGAAGAUCAGAAUUGGAGAUGGAAACUUGAUUGAAGCCAAAGGCAAGGGUAAUGUGUUAGUAAGCACUGGUUCAGGUAAUAAACUGAUUACUGAUGUGCUCUUUGUGCCUGAUAUAGAUCAGAUUUUUCUUAGUGUGGGCCAAUUAGUGGAAAAAAGUUAUACCUUAGUCUUUAGAAAUGGUUGUUACAUUGUUCAAGACUCACUUGGUCAGGAACUGGUUACUGUAGCUAUGAAUGAUAGAUGUUUUAUGUUGGAUGUAAGUCAAGUAGAGAGAAAGGCUUACACCAGCCUUGCUGGUAGCACUGAUCUCUAGCAUAGGAGAUUAGGCCAUGCUAAUUUCAGGUCUUUUGAUCUAUUGCAUAGGCUAAAUUUGGUUAAUGACAUGUCUAAAAUUGAAGUUAGUGGCACUGUUUGUGGGGUUUGCCAGCUUGGUAAGCAGGCUAGAUUGCCUUUUCCUACUGAUAAUGCUUGGAGAGCUCAGGAGAGGCUCGAAUUGGUGUAUUCUAAUGUCUGUGGUCCUAUGAAAACUCCUUCAAUAAGUGACAACAAGUAAUUUGUUCUGUUUAUAGAUGACUUAACAAGAUUUUGUUGGGUUUAUUUUUUGAGGCAGAAGUCAGAUGUGUUUAAGACAUUUUGCAAAUUUAAGCCACUUGUUGAGAACCAAUCUAGUUGCAGAAUUAGAGCCUUGAGGACUGACAAUGGCUUUGAAUAUCUUUCUGAUAGAUUUCAGAAGUUGUGUGAAAGUGCUGGGAUUCAUCAUCAACUCACUACUGUCUAUACUCCUCAACAAAAUGGAGUAUGUGAGAGGAAGAACAGAACUGCGCUUGAUAUGGCCAGAUGUAUGUUAUUUCAGAGCAAGCUUCCAAACCAAUUCUGGGUUGAGGCAGUCAACACCUCAGUAUAUCUGCUCAACAGGUUGCCAACUCGAGCAGUCAAAGACAAAGCUCCUUUGAAGGAUUGGCAUGGACUCAAACCAGUGGUAACACACUUGAAAGUAUUUGGUUAUGUGUGCUAUGUUCAUGUUCCAGUGGAAAAGAGAACCAAGCUUGAAAGUAGAGAUGUUCAGGAAUUUUUGUUGGCUAUAGUAGUAACAAGAAGGGCUACAGGGUGUUUGAUCCAUCAACAAAGAAGGUACUGUCAGCAAAGAUGUGAAGUUUGAUAAAGAGAGGGUAUGGAGCUAGAAUGGUGUUGAAGCAGGCUUGCUUGAGGAAAAUCAGUUGGACUUGGUUACUGAACCUACGGAAGAGGGAUCAAAUCUUGAUGCUGUUGAUGAUGCACUAGUAAAAGGCACCAGAACCUUAGCUGACAUUUACCAAAGGUGCAAUGUUGCAGUAGUAGAGCCUACUGGCUAUGAAGAGGCUGUCAAGGAUAAGAACUGGAAGAAGGCUAUGGAAGCAGAAUUGGAGAUGAUCAACAAGAAUUAGACUUGGGAAUUGGUGAACAGGCCAGACCACAAGAAAGUCAUAGGUGUUAAGUGGGUGUUUAGAUCCAAAUACAAUGCUGAUGGCUCAUUGAACAAGCACAAGGCCAGGCUUGUGGUGAAAGGCUACAGUUAGCAGUAUGGAGUUAAUAUCAUGGAGACAUUUGCUCUAGUAGCAAGAUUGGAUACAAUGAAGCUUCUAUUUGCUUUAACUACUUAGAAACAGUAGAAGGUUCACCAAUUGGAUGUAAAAUGAGCAUUUCUGAAUGGCUUUCUCAAUGAGGAGAUUUUCAUCGAGCAACCAGAUGGAUUUAAAGUUGCUAGAGAGGAAGACAAGGUGUACAGGCUGAGAAAGGCACUUUAUGGCCUAAAGCAGACACCAAGGGCCUGGUAUGAUAGGGUUGACACCUACCUGUCUAAGCUCGGGUUUGAGAAAAGUGUUAGUGAAGCUACACUUUAUGUGAAGAAGUCAGAAUAUGAGACAUUGCUGAUUGUUUCUCUUUAUGUGGAUGACUUGCUUGUAACAUGAAGCAAGAGUGAGCUCAUUGAUGAAUUCAAAGUCCAAAUGCAACAAGUAUUUGAAAUGACUGACUUGGGGAUCAUGACUUACUUCCUUGGUAUGGAAGUGCAUCAGUCUGAUCGAGGCAUUUUCAUCAGCUAGCAUACUUUUACCUUGAAGAUUCUUGCUAAGUUUUGCAUGCAAAACUGUAAAACAGUCAGCACACCUGUUGCUCAAGGUGAGAAACUGACUAGUAAUGGAGACAAGGAAAGGGUUGAUGAAAGACACUAUCGAAGCCUAGUUGGUUGUUUGCUAUAUCUAACAGCAGCUAGACCAGAUAUUAUGUUUGGUGUCAGUUUGUUAUCAAGAUUUAUGCACUGCUGUAAUGAGGCUCACUUGAAAGCAGCAAAGAGGGUUUUUAGAUACAUUAAAGGGGCUGCAAAUUAUGGUGUGAUAUUUGAAAGUGGAAUAGAGCUAAAACUUGAAGGAUAUUCAAACAGUGACUGGGCAGGUUCUCUUGAUGACAUGAAGAGUACCUCUGGCUACUUUUUCACACUUGGAUUGAGUGUGUUUUGUUGGAGUUCGAAGAAGCAACAGACUGUUGCUCAGUCCACAGCUGAAGCAGAGUACAUUGCAGCUGUAGCAACUGUUAACCAGGCCAUAUGGCUCAGGAAACUCCUUCAAGAUCUCAAUGAGAAUCAAGUUGAAGCAACUGAAAUUUGGGUGGACAAUCAAUCGGCAGUUGCUAUAGCUAAAAACCCUGUGUUUCAUGGAAAGACUAAGCACUUUAAGAUUAAACUUCAUUUUGUUCGAGAGGCUGAACAAACAAGAGAAGUCAGCCUUGUUCAUUGUAUCCCAGGGGCUCAAUUGGCAGACAUAUUGACUAAUCCAUUAGCAGCUACUCGAUUUGAAGCCUUGAGAAAUGGAAUUGGUAUGUGUUGCAUACAGUCCAAGGAGGAGUGUUGAAAGUUGGCCUGUAAUGCAACAUGGAACCAGUAGCUAACUAUCAUCGAGUUCAGCAACAGCAAAGCAACAUGAAGUGCAGUAUUUGAGUUUGACCGAAUACAACAGUAGCUUAGUUCAUUUUGUUUCAAUGUAAACUUGUUUAGUUACAAAUUUGUGUAAGAAAGUUAGUAGGAUUAGUCUUUGAUUAGUCCUUGAUGUAAUGGCUGAUUGGUCAGCUACUUUUGUGUAUGAUUUUAGCUAUAAUCUAGUCAUGUAUUAGUGGGGGCAGUUAAGCCAUUAGGUAACUGUCAAGUUGAUAUUUUUUGUAACUCCAAUAUAUUUCAAAAUUUGAAUAAAAAAUACUUGUUGUUCAGUUACAUUUUUCUGAGUGUUCAAGCUUGCUUACUGUUUUCUUUUCUUUUGCUUCGAUUUCCAUUGGUUUUUUCUUUGCAAAUUGGUUCUUUUGCUAUUGCCAAACUUCCAACAAGUGUGUUGUUUCCUUGUCCUCUUUUGCCUCUUCUUCCACUCAUCCAUUUCAGAGCCUCGAGAUGUUGGAUCUUAAACAUCUGCCAAAGUUGAGUGCCCUUAUUAUGAAAGAUGCAGGAAUUCGUUCAGCAACAACAUCAACAAUGGCUCCGUCUACCACCUUUUCCCAUCUUAAGAAAAUUUAUGUAGUAAGAUGCUCAAGUAUGAAGACGUUGCUUCCACAUUGGUUGCUUCCAAACAUCUAAAACUGGAAGAAAUUUGGGUGUUAGAAUGUGAUGAGAUAGUAGAAAUAUUGGGAGCAGCAACAUCAGAAGUUGAAGAAAAAGGGAGUGAUGCAUUAAUCAAAUUCCAUCUUCCCAAAUUGAGACUACUGACAUUCUGGGAAUUACCAAAUUUGAAGAGCAUAUGCAGCAAAAGUGGACUGAUGGUUUGUGAUUCUCUCCAAGUUAUCGAAGUUUUUAGAGAUUGUGAUAAACUGAAGAGAAUUCCUUCAUUUGUUCCCCUUGUUGGCAAUGGGCAACCAUAUGCGUAUGCUUCACCUUAUCUUACCAUCUUCUCAAGCACAUAAUGGUGGGAAUUGUUGGAGUGGGACGACCAUCCAAACUUUAAAAAUGUUCUUCGCUUCAACCCCGUGGAGGAUAAGAGGUAUGAACCAUUUAUGGUUUAGUUUAUUUUUUUAUUUUGAUAAAUCUAAUUUCUCCAUAUUAAUAAAAUUUGAAGUAUAUUUGUGAAGAUGUUGAAGAGAAAGAGAAAAGGGUUGGUGGGAAAGAAGUAGGGGGAGGAUAGUGAAAAAGAGAGGAGAAAACGAAUGAUGAAAGUAAAAGGUUAAGCAAAGGUAAAUAAGAAAUAAAACUACCUCCACUUUUUAAACAUUUCCCCCCUCUUACCAUUCCUUCUAUUCUCUUUUUCUUCUCUAAUAUGUACAUAUACUUACCAAAAUAACCUUCUAAAUAUUUAUUAUUAAAAUAUUUAUAUUAAUCAAAAUGAUUUUAGGUGACACAAAACUUAUUUCCAAUAAAAGUUAGGAAAGUAUUGUAAAAAGACAUAAUAUUUUUUAAUUUCCAUGUAAAAUUUUUAGAAACAUUAAGAUUUAAAAAAUAAUAAUUGCUUGUUUUUAAAAAAAUAAUAUUUAUUAAAAAAUAUAAUUGGAUUCAUUCAUAUGUAAACGUAAUGAUAAAGAUUAAAACAAUAAUGUACUUUCAUAAAAAUAUGAUAUUAGAAAUUAAAAGUGGAAAUUAAAUAAUAUAAAUUCCUUUUCUUAAGUAAUAUAAAAAUUGUAGGGAUUAACAUAGUUAAUAAUAUUAACAUAUUUCUAAAAUUAAAUAAUAUUUUAAUUUAUGAGGACUAAAUGUGAAAAUGAAAAAGGUGAAAUCCCUUUUAAAAUAAAUUAAAAACAUUAAGGGGAUUAUGUUGCAAAUAAGCCCUCCACGUUUCCCAUAUAUAAAAGACAUUUUCCUUUUUCUUUUAAUGUGUGAUGGAUAAGUUGGAAAAUAAAAAUAAAAAAAUACUUAGUUUCCUUCCUUUUUUUCUUGCUUCAUUUUGUUGUCCGACUUUUUUUCAAAGCUGAAGGUUUAAAUUUUUUUAGUCUUAAAUACUGAAAAUAUCAUAGGUUCUCAAUAAUUAUGAGUUUGUAACGCCAGAAAGUUUACAUUUUUAAAAUAUCAUAGGGACACAAACGUGUAUCCAGACCGUGUGUGGCUAUGUUAGUGCAGGGUUCACACAGGCCAAGGACACUGGCGUGUGUCCAGGUCAUGUAACACACUGUUUACAAAAUAAAGAUCACACGGGCGGAUGACACAGCCGUGUGUUAGGCCAUGCGGGACACACGGGCAAGCAAACAGGCAUGUGUCAAGCCGUGUAGGACUACACGGGUGUGCGGGCCAGUUUAUAGAAUUUUUUCAUUUCCUGAACUUCGUUUGAAAUGAAUACAAGCCUUCUGUAAGGCCGUAUGAACUGAAUUAAAUUGUAUAAAUUGAUAUUCUAUUAUCUGAAAUUGAGUACUAAUAAUCUGUGUGUGUAUUGUGUAUGACCAAUGUUAAUAGUAUCGAUCUACUGUAUUCAAGCAUGAAUUGUAUCUAAAUAUCCGCAUCUGUAUUAACUGUCAUGUGAAGUCUGCAUAUGCAUUAGGUGGAAAUUGAACAAGAAGGAAGUAUUAUGUUCUGACAUAACGAUUAAAUUAAUCACUGUCAUAUGUACUCUGAUCUGGGAGCUAGACUGCAAUUUCUGAAACGUGUCAGACCGACCCUAUAUGGUGUGUAGGGUUAGAUGGGUAAUAAGUAUCCUAUUUCAUGUGUUAGGNNNNNNNNNNNNNNNNNNNNNNNNNNNNNNNNNNNNNNNNNNNNNNNNNNNNNNNNNNNNNNNNNNNNNNNNNNNNNNNNNNNNNNNNNNNNNNNNNNNNNNNNNNNNNNNNNNNNNNNNNNNNNNNNNNNNNNNNNNNNNNNNNNNNNNNNNNNNNNNNNNNNNNNNNNNNNNNNNNNNNNNNNNNNNNNNNNNNNNNNNNNNNNNNNNNNNNNNNNNNNNNNNNNNNNNNNNNNNNNNNNNNNNNNNNNNNNNNNNNNNNNNNNNNNNNNNNNNNNNNNNNNNNNNNNNNNNNNNNNNNNNNNNNNNNNNNNNNNNNNNNNNNNNNNNNNNNNNNNNNNNNNNNNNNNNNNNNNNNNNNNNNNNNNNNNNNNNNNNNNNNNNNNNNNNNNNNNNNNNNNNNNNNNNNNNNNNNNNNNNNNNNNNNNNNNNNNNNNNNNNNNNNNNNNNNNNNNNNNNNNNNNNNNNNNNNNNNNNNNNNNNNNNNNNNNNNNNNNNNNGCUUGAAUCUUGCAUUCAUGUUUUCCUUUUCAUGCUUACACUGACAUAUCAAUACUUCAUAAAAUAUCCAAUUCAUUCACAGAUAUUCAUUAUCUGCUACUGUUAUAUAUGCUUGCAUUGCAGGGACAUAGCAAUGGAGUACGUAGAGCCUGUUCUCGGCAUUGCAAAUUGUCUCGGAACUCCUGUUUGUAAAUAUUUGCAAUAUCACAGAAAGCUGAACGAUUAUGUGAGAAACUUCAAGAGGACCAGAGAUGAAUUGAAUUGCAAAAUGGAAGAUAUAGAGCUGCAAUUGAAAGCAGAGCUUCUUCGUCCUCUGGGGAAGAUACCGAAGAAGGGAGUUGAAAAUUGGUUGAAAGCUGUGAAAGAGAUGAUUAGGGAAGCACAAGUUGUUGAAAACAAAGUCAGUAACGGGAGAUAUCUCUGUCGGGCUUGCAACGGGAAGCUGGUUGAUGAAAAGACUCGAGAAAUGAAGGAAUUUCUUGAUAACGCUCCUAAUGCCUCUGAAGGUCUUGCCAUGGAUGGUCCAAGUGCUGGGUUGCCACUGCCAACAUCAGAACUAGUUGGAGAGGAAGCUGUCAGAAAUGAGAUUUGGGCAUGUUUGAUGCAGGAGGAGGUGAGCAAGAUUGGGGUUUGGGGGAUGGGUGGUGUGGGUAAAACCACUAUCAUGAAGCACAUCCACAAUGAUCUUUUGAAACAGCAAAGAUUCGAAAGGGUAAUCUGGGUUACCAUAUCAAAGGAGUUCAAUGUAAUGAAGGUACAAGAUAAUAUUGCAAGUGCGUUGGAGUCGAAGGAAUAUUUAGACAAAGAAGAGGACAAGCUCAGACGAGCUGCAAUCUUGUCAGAAAUGCUGAAGAAGGCAGGAAAGCAUGUUCUAAUCCUAGAUGAUGUGUGGGAUAAAGUCUCUCUAGAGGAAGUUGGGAUCCCCGAGCCAAAUGGUAGCAAUGGCUGCAAGUUGGUGUUGACAACCCGUUCGGAGCAUGUCUGUAAGUACAUGGGUUGUAAGGUGAUAAAAGUGGAGCCCCUUUCAGAAGAAGAGGCAUUGAUACUAUUCUUGAGUGAAGUUGGACCUAACAUGGUGCAAAAUCAAACUUUAAUGCCAACUUUGAAGCUUGUUGUCAAGGAAUGCGCAGGUCUGCCUCUUACAAUUGUCGUUAUAGCUGGUACAUUGAGAGGAGAAGUUGACCCUCUUAUUUGGAAAAACACACUCAGGGAAUUGAAAGAGAGAAUAGGGAAAGUGAAAGAAGCGGAAGAUAAAGUGAUCGAGAGUUUGAAAGUUAGCUUCAAUCACUUAAAAGACGAGAAAAUGAAGCAUUGUUUCUUACAUUGCGCAUUAUAUCCUGAAGAUUAUAAAAUUUGGAAGUAUGAGCUAAUUGAGUGCUGGAUUGAAGAGGGAUUCAUAGAUGAUAUGAGUACAAGACAAGAAAUGAAAGAUAAGGGCCAUGUUAUUUUGAAGAAAUUAGAAGAUAAUUGCUUGUUGGAAAAUGUCUCGAGUGAAACAGUGAAAAUGCAUGAUGCAGUGAGAGACAUGGCAUUGUCGAUCACAAGAAUGAAUCCUCGAUAUAUGAUACAAGCAGGUUUGCAAUUAGAAGAGUUACCAGAAAAGGAGCAAUGGAGUCCGGAUAUUGAGAAAGUGUCACUUAUGUAUAACUCCAUAUCAGAAAUUUUCAUAGAUGUGCUACCCACAAAAUGCCAACUGCUCACAACCUUGUUAUUGCAGUUCAACCUUAUAAAGAAGAUCCCAUAUUCUUUCUUCACAAACAUGCCUUGUCUUCGUGUUCUCAAUUUGUCCUUCACAUGGAUCGAGAGUUUACCAAAUUCCAUCUCUGAACUAAAGAACCUCACAACAUUGUUGCUUUCUUGCUGUUCUGGAUUAAGAGAUCUGCCUUGUCUUUCGAUGCUUCAAGAAUUGAAGAAGUUGGAUCUUUUUGGGACUAAAAUUGAGGAAGUCCCUGAAGGAAUGGAUAUGCUGAUAAAGCUAAGAUAUCUUCGUCUUCAAGUGUUCAGUCUGAAAGAGAUACCCGCUGGACUUUUACCAAAACUCGUUCACCUUCAGCACUUGGGUUUUGAUGUGUACAAUGAAAAAACAAGUCUAAAAGCAGAGGAGAUGGAACCAUUGAAGAAGUUGGAGUGCUUUACCGGACGUUUCGAAAACAUCAAUGAAUUCAAUAAGUUCAUCUCCUCAAUGCAACAAAGUAAGAAAAAUCUCAUCAAGUACCAUUUACAGGUGGGCUCAACUUCUAGGCUUCUUACAGGAGAUAAAACAGUAACAAUUUUUGGAGUCCAGAAUUGGGAAGGUGAGUUAAUUAUGCACCCAAUUGAAAUUCAAGAGUUGAAUAUUAUAAGGUGCGACUAUUCGAGAAACUUAGUCGAUGAUAAUUCUUCCUUCAAAAAUGCGAUUGACUUGAGGGUUUGUAGGAUUUCGGAGUGUGAAGGGAUAGAGUGUGUUGUUUCCCUGUCCUCUUUUGCCUCUUCUUCCGCUCAUCCAUUUCAGAGCCUCGAGGUGUUGUAUCUUUGUGAUCUGCCAAAGUUAAGUGCCCUUAUUAUGAAAGGUGAAGGAAUUGGUUCAGCAACAACAUCAACAGUGGCUCCGUCUGCCACCUUUUCCCAUCUUAAGAAAAUUACGAUAUCCAAAUGCUCAAGUAUAAAGACGUUGCUUCCACAUUGGUUGCUUCCAAACCUCCAAAACCUGGAAGAAAUAUCAGUGUCAUUCUGUGAUGAGGUAGUUGAAAUAUUGGGAGCAGCAACAUCAGAAGUUGAAGAAAAAGGGAGUGAUGCAUUAAUCAAAUUCCAUCUUCCCAAAUUGAGAGAACUGAAAUUGUUGUAUUUACCAAAUUUGAAGAGCAUAUGCAGCAAAAGUGGAGUGAUGGUUUGCGAUUCUCUCCAACUUAUCCAAGUUCUAAACUGUUAUAAACUGAAGAGAAUUCCUCCAUUUGUUCCCCUUGUUGGCAAUGGGCAGCCAUUUGCAUAUGCUCCACCUUCUCUUACCAUCAGGUCAAGGAAAGAAUGGUGGGAAUGGUUGGAGUGGGAUGACCAUCCAAACUUUAAAAAUGUUCUUCGCUUCUACCCCGAGGAGGAUAGGUAUGAACCAUUUAUGGUUUUGUUUAUUUUUUUUUUAUUUUGAUAAACCUAAUUUCUCCAUUUUAAUACAAUUUCAGGUAUGCUUUUGAUGAUGUUAGAAAGAGAAAAGGGUUGGUGGGAAAGAAGGAUAGUGCAAAAGAGAGGAGAAAAGGAAUGAUGGAAGGAAGAGGUUAAGAGGCUCCACAUUGUAAACAUAUAAAUUUGCUUAAUAUUUUUUCUAUGUUUGUUUUGAAAGAAUGAGUAUUGAAUAUAGAUAAUAUAGAGAAAUUUUGUAGGGUUUAAAAAUAAUUAUCCCUAAUUUUCUCAUUUUUUUAUUUUUUAAAUUUUAGAAUGUUCUAAAAUUUUAAAAAUAUUUUUUAACCUUUUACCAUUUUAUAUAUUAUUAAAAUUAAAUUGACUGAAUAAUUAUAUCACUUAUUAUCAUUGAAUAAAACAAAACAUAGCUAAUAACCAUUGUUAAGUACCAGUUCAGCUUUUAUUAAUUCUCAAUUCUUUUUUUGUUGAAGAUAACCGAAUUCAUAAUUUCAACAUUAGAAAUCUUGUAUUUCAAAUUAAAAAAUUUUCAAAAAGGCUAAAUUACAACUAUAUGCUGAAAAAAAAUUGAAAAUUUAUGUUGUUUUCUUGAAAAUUUAUCAAUUUAUAUUAUUUUUUACAAAUAGAAAAGAAAAUGUGUCUUAUAGGAUGUGUUUUCUCUGAUCUUUCGGAGAAAACAUGAGACGCGUUUUAUUCUCUUUCCUAAAAAGUGCUCUGUAGGAUGCAUUUUCAGAUAGUCUAAAAUUGUUUUUUUUUUCUUACAGUUUGAAACUAGAAGUUUGUAGGUUUUGCUUUUCUCGUGUUCAAGAUAAAUAUUGUUAUAGUUUUAAGGUAUGUUUGAAUUUACGGUAGUGUCGUGGAGUUGGGUGACUUACGAAUUUCACCUAGCAUGUGAGCAUGGAGCCAUCCGAGAAUCUGGAUUGCAUUGCAACUCAAGGUCCCAGUUGACAGUGGUUCUAUAGUCUCCGAUUGAAGUGUAACUAGGUCUUUAAUUUUACAAAGGUUAGUUAUCAAUGAAUGGAGCAUAAAUGGGGUCCCAGUUGAUGGUGGUUAUGUGAGCACGACAACGAGUUUCUCAUCAUCAGGGGAGGAUGCUAUUUGCCACAGAAACAGAAGUAUGAGGAAAAAAAAUGCAAUGGCGUUUUAGUAUAAUCAAGUAAUUCGGUAGAAAUGGAUAAAAUGCUACUACAAUUUUCUUCCUUAUACUUUUGUUUAUGUGGUGUAUAGCUUCCUCCAUUGAUGAUGAAAAAAAAUCCUUAUUGUGCCUACAAAACCACCGCCAACUAGGGCCAAAUUUAUGUUUUGUCCCUUGGCAGUAUAACCUUUGUAAACUUGAAACCUUAAUUACAUUUCAACCCGAGACAGUAUAAUCACCAUCAAGUUGGAUCUCGAGUUGCAAUGCGAUCUCGACUGCUCAGGUGAUAACUCAAUGCUCACAUGGCAGGUGAAGUUUGUUGGAAUAAAAAACCGAAAACUUUGAAAUUAAUAAACUAACCUCCUCUUUUGUUUGUUGGUCUAAAGUUAGUCAAAUGUCCUCAAGCUCGGUCAAUAUAUUGUUGGCGGGGUUAUUCCACCUAUACCAAAAACAUAUUAUUUCAACAGUACAAUGAAAAUUUUGAUAUAGUAACACUACACCAAAACAGGCUUUUAGCGGCGCUAAAAAGCGCUGCUAAAAGUAUUUGCGGCGCUUUUACAAGCGCCGGAAAAAACGCCACUAAAGACUACGUUGCUAACUUUAGCGGCGUUUUUAGAAAAAAACGCCGCUAAAGACCACGACCUUUAGCGGUGCUUUUGCCACAAACGCCGCUAAAGAUCAUGACCUUUAGCGACACUUCUCGCAAAAAACGCCGCUAAAAACAUAACCUUUAAAAAAAUUAUUUUAAUCAAAUAAUAUCUUUAGCAGCGCUUUUCAUUCAAACACCGCUAAAGAACAAACCUUUAGCAACGCUUCUCACAAAAACGCCACUAAAAACAUAACCUUUAACAAAAUUAUUUUAAUCAAAUAUUAUAUUAUAUUAUAUUUUUUAAUUUUGAACUUUAAAUAUACUUUUUAAGGAUAAAUAAAAAAUAUUAUUUAAAUUAAAUUUUCUAUGAAAAUUUUAACUUUAAAACUAAAUAUAAAAAUGAAUGAAUUUAGUUUUAAAAUUUAAAAUAAUAAAUUAAUAACACAAUUAAAAUCCAAAAAUUAGAACUCAAGUUGUCGUAAAUAUUAAAGUAAAAAUAAAAAUUUAGAAUCAAAACUAAAAUAAAUAAUACAUUUGAAAAACAAACUGACUAGUUGAACCUCCUAUGACUAUUCACAUUGCAAGCUAAUAAAAAAUACAAUGCAUUAAAUUGUUGAACCUGCCCAGGUACUAACUGACAGCAGAAUAACACAUUAAAUUGUUGGAUUAAACAUGUAGAUUACAUACUAAUGUAGACCUAAAUAUUUUCCUGUUCCUUCUACCCUUAAAUCUAGAGAUAGCAAAAACCAGGGACCUAACACCAGCAAGUUCAAAUAUAUUGCUAAAAGAAACACAACUUUAGCUCCAUCCAAAUGUACUUUCAAUUCUCAUUUCAAAUUCUGCUUCAAUAUAUUGGAUGAGUUUCCCCACUGCAUGAUGUUAGGUGAUCAAACAGAGUACUUUAAAACUGCAAAAGUAAGAAGCAAGCAUCCUCACUUGAUAAUCUGAAGGGUUGUCUUCCUCACCACUUGGUCCUCUAAAAGGAAGCAGCUGAGCUUUAGGUUUCUCUAAAGAGAAAACAACAGGAAUUCCACCCUCAAUCCCAUGAUCUUUCCUUAAACGGUGUCUCACCUAGAAGCAAAAAUUUGAGAAAGAGUAAAGUGAAUGAUAUCAGGAAAUAAACCCCUAAACAAUGUCUUCUUAAUGCAAUAGAUAAACAAGAGUAAAAUUGGAUAUCCAAAAUAACAAAUACAAGCAUAAGAUAUUAAAGUUUUUCCAAACCAAAUAAAAUCUAAUUGGACAAGGCCCCAAAGUAAACACCAAUCAUAAGAUCAGCAACCACCAGAAAACUGCAGUAGCAAGUGUAGAUUCAAAAGCCACAGACGCAAAGAGCCCCCAUUUUAGAAUGAUUGACAACUCCAAAACAACUUCACCGUAUUCAGAAUCAAUAAUAUAAAAUGCCAGAAGCUCAAAUCACAAUAAAUAAUAAAAAUACAAAAACAUAAAUAUUUCAUAACCUAAAGCUACUGAUACUAAAAUAAAAUACGUAUCUAGAAGCAAAACCUAACCUUCGUACACACUAAGUAGCAAAGUUGAUCCUAAUCCUUCAGCUGAAUAACUUAUGUUGCUUGCUUACUCGUGCUUUAGAUGGGUGCAAUAUCAAACAAGCAUAUAGAAGGAUUAGCCAUGCACUAUCAUAAUAAUGAAAAAUAAAACAUAAAUUAGAGCAUAACAUGAACCACAUAAAGAAAUUAGGAGUUCUAUAUAUGGUGAAAAGCCAAUAUUUGACUGCAACGUUAUAUAGAAUUCUUAUAGCCAAUAGGUAAAACUGAAAGUUCAUAAGUCAUGAUGAUACCUUUGUGUCAAUGUUAUCAAUGCAGUCCAAAACAAAAUCAGGGUUUAACUAUUUGAUUAAAAAAAUUAAAAAUUAUUUUAUAAAUUAUUUUUUUAAUCAGGGUUUAAAUUUGACAAAUUUAAAGACUAAAUGUUAUUUUAUCUAUAGAUGAAUUGAAAAAUUGAAAUGCCAACUAAGCUUCUUAUAUAGCAGCUCUGUCAAGGUUCUGAACUCCAGCAGAAUUAAUCAAACAUAAUCAUUGACAAUAUAUAUAUAUAAUGUUAUAUAUAAAACCUUGUUUGCUCUAAAGAAAUUUGGAUGGAAAAGGGUUAAUUUCAUAUUCUUUAAAUUAUUUAAAAUAAAUGCCUGCAUGGAUGGAGUCAAGUACCUUCUGAGAGUUCAGGUUGUUCGAAUGGGGUACAAAGAGACUUAGCUGCUCCCAUCUCACCCCUUGUUCGAGCUUCCACAUCUUUCUCCACCUCCUAUAUAUACAAAACAUAAAACAUCAUUUAAGAAAAAUGAGCGACAUAUGCCUCGAGAGAUUAGAAUAUGAUCCAGCUCAUGUUGUUGCCUAACAAAAUACAGGUUUUACAAACUCAUCCCACGUUUUUACAACUUCAAUGCAGGCAUCUCUUUUUUGUUUUGCCACAUCGAAUAGGUUCUGUUGAAUCUUAUCCAACAUUCCUUUUACUUGCUCAACCAAAAAGACUCUAGAGAUAUCAGUCUUUUCUCCAUUGUCACAGCGAACUGCACGCACCUGUCCAAUAAAACACAUUCUGGUUUCAAUAAUAAGAAAAUAAUACAUAAAAGAAUAGAAGGAAAGCGGAAAUAAGAAAAAAAAGGGUUAAUUGCAUGACCUUAAAGAGCUAAGAAAAUAAGUAAUUUUGUUUUGGACUUAAAGAGCAUAAUUUUGAGUAUUAUUGAGGUUAUGAAUUCCGAGGACAUGUAAGAGAAGUGCACAAGGCUACUAAUACGAACAUGGACAGCAAAUAAUCAUCUUUUAUGUAAUAAUUAAACAAAUAAGCUAUCCGAUUUUUCUUUUGGUUUGAGUUGGUAAAACGUUAGGCAUGUUCGUAUUCAACAUAAGUUUUCUGACCUUUAAAUUUUUCAUUAUUGUUGCAAAUAGAAGCACAGUCACUGAAAUGAGAAUCUCGACAUGCUCCUUGUCUUUCUAGUUGCAGGCUUCUGUUAGCAGUAUAUUACUAUCAAAAUUUGCAAUUGCAUUUGAAGAACCUGCAAGAAUCUCAUAACAGCUAACCAGAACAGGGUCAAAAAAUCUCUUCUGUUCUUUUUUCUUUCUGUUUUUUAAGGCUGGAGUUGGUUGGAUCUCAGCUACCUUAAAUAAAUUUGUUUGACUUCGAGCACCCAUUAAAUACAUUAAAUCAGGCCCUUCCACUUAUAGCCAAUUGGUUUUAGGUUGGAUGCUUAACACAAGUCAUGUAAACUUGUUGUUACUUUUAAUUUGAGUUAAAUUUUAGAACUUUUCAUAUAGACUAGCAACUUCCCACUCAAUUUUCCACCUCUUUCUCGCAACCAGAAGAAGGAAACACUGAUAACAGAAAAAAUAAAUUAUCUCAAAUUCAAUUCGUGCAAUUAUCAUAUCAUUUUUAUUUUCUUUCUCAUUUUACAUUUUUUUUUCUUGGCAACCAAGCAGGAGUUAGACUACUAACAAACUAACUAAAAGCUUACUUUCUACAUCUAACUAUGAAAAAAAAAAAGUAAUCGAAAAUAUAAAUUUGAGAUAAUUUCAUCAAUCUGCAAUUUUCUUUCUCGGUUUCCAGUGCUUUCUCAGUAACCAAAAGGAAACCGUUAAAAUUACAACAAAGAGGAGAAAAAAAAAAGAAAGCUAUUCGAGUUGAAGUCAUGCAAUUUUUAAUUUCCUUCUCAGUUCUUCAUUUUUUCCUUCUCAAUUUCCAAGUUGAGUCCGCGAAAUUAUUACAUAAAUUUUGCAAUUUUCCUUCUCAAUUUCCAAACUUUACUAGAAACCAAAUAAAAACUAUAAAAAUUAAACGAUAAAAGAAAAUAUAACCUUGUGAAAGGGACCGACGCGCUGCUCACUGGCAUAAGACUUGAAGUUCCUCAUCACCAUCUCGUUAAUUACUAACCUCGGUCCUCGAGAUCCCACUUGGGCCUGCUCUGGCUCGCGAGUCGUGAACUCAUCCUUCGUUUCCAUCUCCAUACGGAAAUAAGCGGCUGCUAAGUCAACUCACUGCUAUUGAAUCGGUUUGAGACUUCGAGACGAGUUGAUGGAAUAAACAAUUAAAAGGAAGAUGAAAAAGUUUAAAAAGCAUUUGAGCAAAAUUUCAGAAGGGAUUUUUAGCGGGAAUUUGAAAUAAACAUCACGCGUCAGAAUAUUUGGGGCGCUUACAAAAAAAGUCACUAAUUGAAUAACUUUUGUGGCGUUUUCAACAAAAACGCCACUAAAAAUUAAAUUUUUGUAGUGAAACGGGCCGUUUUGAAAAUUUUAAAUAUAUAUUUGCGGCGUUUUUGGUUCAAACGCCGUUAUUGCUUACCUUUUGCGGCGUUUUUCUUAUAAACGCCGCUAAUAAUUAACUUUUUUUACAAUUUUAUAUUUAAUUAUUAUAUAAUUCAUAUCAAUUUUAAAUAAAUAGUUUUUGAAAAAUUAAGUAAUAUUUAAAAGAAUUAGAUAAAUUUUAAAUCUUUUAUAUAAUUUUUAUUUUUAUUUGUUAUAAUUUGAUCCUAUGCAAAAUAGAUAGUUACCCAUCUAUAUCAAUCUGUUACUUUUUAUUUAUUUAUUUAUCAAUGUUUUUUUUAAUCUAAUAUUUAAAUAUAUCAAAUGGUUUAGAUUAAAUAUUUUGAAAUAUAAAAGCAUUAAUUGAUUGUAUAAAAUUUCAUCAUUUAAGAAAUCUCAAGUAAACCAUAUAAUAAAUCUCUUAAAUAAUUUAAACUAUAAUCAUAAUUUUAAUAUAUUAAAAUUAAUAUUAUCUCCUUUACAAUUAUAUAAGAAAUUAUUUAAUAUAUAAAUUAAAAAAUACUAAUUACUCUAAACCCUAAACUCUUAACCCCUAUCCCCAAUCCCCUGAACAUUGAAUCAUAAAACAUAAACCUUAAACCCCUAACCCCUAAACAUUAAACCCCAAUGAUGUGAGCUUGCCUACGAACCAAAUGGAGAACGAACAAGAAGCCAUCAAGCUGCCCAUUGGUCCAAUAACGCGAGCUAGAGCUGACUUUGGACGAAUUUCUGAAUGAAAUAUCAUUUUAGUGAGGCAAUUCACUCUCUUUAUUCUUCAAAGCUCAAUUGACUUAUCUUUACGAGUGGCGUCAAUCUGACUUUGUUUCGAACUUAUCACCAUAAGGUGUGGCGUUCCAACUAUACCGAAGGUUCCUAUUUUGCUAAAUAGAGGGUCUCGAUUUUAUCUACCAUUUCUUUCCUUUUUCUUUGAAACCUUUAAGCCCGGGUCCUUAUUUGCUAAUAAGGGUUCGUUCUUGUUUCAUUGGAAAUCACUUAUCUCCAUUUUGCUUCCUAAACCAUUUAAAACCAAUAUAACUCAUCUUAUUGAAUUUGAACUAAAUCGACACUACCUAAAUUCGAUCGGGAACAUAAUACGACUCGUCACAUCAUCCGAAUCGAGCUCGUAUCACCCAACCCUUAAACCAUAAACCAUAACCCUUAACUCUUAACCCUCAACUCCUAACCCUUAACCCCUAAACCUUAAUCUAUAAAUCUUAAACCAUAAACCGUAACCCUUAAGCCUUAAACGCAUAAACUAUAAACCAUAAUCUAUAAACCUUAAAAUAGUAACUCCUAAACUUUAACCCUAAACCAUAUACCCUUAACCCUAAACCCUAAACAAUAAUAAUAAUUAAUUUAAUAUUUUAAAAUUAAUACUAUCUUUUUUAUGAUUAUAUAAGAAAUUAUAUAAUAUAUAAAUUAAAAAAAAUCAGUCAUAUACCUAAAAAACUUUAAAAUUAUUUUAAAUAAUAGUAUUUUAAUUUUUGAAUAUUCAAUUAAAAAUAAUUUGAAUUUUAAUUAAUAUAAAUAAACCAAUUAAAUAAUAAUAAAUAGAUAAAAUAUUUUUGCGGCGCUUUUCCAAAAGCGCCGCUAAAAACCCCGAGCAUUAGCGGCGCUUUUCCAAAAACGCCGCUAAAGCCCAUACUCUAGCGACGCUUUUUAAAAAACGCCACUAAAGCCCCUAAAACUAAAAAAAUGACGUCGUUGGGCUUAGGUUUUUUGCGGCACUUUUUCAAAAACGCCGCUAAAGCCCCAUGCAUUAGCGACGCUUUUUAUAAAACGCCACUAAAGCCCCAAAAACUCAGAAAACGACGUCGUUGUGCUUAGGUUUUUUGUGGCGCUUUUUGAAAAACGCCGCUAAUGCUCAUUUUUAGCAGCGUUUUCCAAAGUGCGCCACUAAUGCUCAAUCUUUAGUGGUGUUUUUUCAGAAGCGCCGCUAAUGCUUGAUUUUUAGCGGCGUUUUUUAUCCAAACGCCACUAAAAGUGCCGCUAAAAGCCUGUUUUGCUGUAGUGUAACAAUAUUAUGAAAUGAAUUUUAUCAUGUUAUGAAUGAGAAUUCAUAAGGGGAAUUUCUAUUGCAUUCUAUAUUUUUCAUAAUCUUUACAGGUAGUAUACUCUAUUAUAUAUAGAGAGAUUAGACUCUUCAUAUUCUAAUACACAAAUAAAAAAAGGGGUUAUAAGGAGAUGAAAGGUUAAAAAUUAAAGAAAAUGAAAGAUUACAGGUCAAAGGAGAUAAAAAGUGAACGGUGAAAGGUUAAACAUCCACUUGAUAGCAUUAAUAAUAAAUAUUCUAAAUGUAGUAAAAAUCAUAAAAAUAAUUAAAACACUGCUCCAAAUGAACCAAAUCCACUCAAGCAAUUACUGAAACUUCAAGGAAAAUGUGAGAGCAUAGAUUAAUUAUUUUUAAAUAAGUUAAUUGCACCAAAUAUUUUUAAAUUAUUGCCUGCAUUCUAAAUUAAUUCAUUAAAUUUUAAAUCAUUUUAGUUACAUUUCUAAACUAAAGAGAAUAUAUCAAUCAAGUUUUUUUGUUUUUAAAACCAUUAAUUUAAUAAUAAAAAGACAUCUUCAGUCACUCUCAAUUUUAAAAUUGAGUAAAUUAGUCACUUUCAAAAAUUUUGGAAUAAUUUAAUCUCUGUCAAUUUUGAAAGUGAGCAACAAAGGACAAUUAAUCACGACGUUCAUGUCUUUCGUCAAUUGUGCAUGAUUUUGAUUGGUAUAAUAACACAUUUAGCCCUUGAUGUUUACAUAUUUUGUUAGUUUGGUCUUGAUUCUAAAAAAAAAAACAAAUUCAGUCUCAAAAUUUACACAUUUACAAAAAUAUUACAGGCUAAAUUUAUUAUCAUAUCAAUUAAAUUUAUGUAAAAUUGACGAAAAACAUUAAUAUUAUGAUUAAUUGCUCACUUUUGAAAUUGGUAGGGAUUAAAUUGUUUCGAUUUUUUUAGAGGAACCAAUUUGCUCAAUAUCAAAAUUGAGAGGGACUAGAGAGGUUGUUUUACCUAGUUUAAUAAUUAAAUGACAUGUUAAAUCUUAUGUGGUAUAAUUUAAAUAAAAAUUAAAAAAAUUGUAGAAAUAUUUGUUUUAAAAAUCUAGGUUUUGAAGUUUUUACGAAAUUUUUAUUGUUCAUUUUUUUUUAAAUUUCAGUUUUAUUUAAUUUUAGUUUCUUUAAAAUUUUCAUUUUAAAAUUAGCUAUAUAAAAUUUAACGUGUCAUUUAAUGAUUUUAAUAAUAAAAUGACCUGAUUAAUAUAACAUCAAUAGUUUAAAAAUGUAAUUAGAUCAGUUUGAAGUUUGAAAAUAGAUUUAAAAUAAUGGUCAUAAUUUAGGGGUGGCAUUUUGCAGUUUAGACUUUAGACCAUAAAUUACUGAGAUGAAAACUGUAGCGUCGUUCUGCAGCCUUUUUUGGUCCAGGCAGGGCAGGCUGAGCUCAAAAAUUUGGGUAGACCUUGAAUAAAACAUAUAGACCCAUAUUUCAUAUUAGGCAGAGCUUGAGCAAAAAUAACAGUUAGCAAUACCUUGUCUAAGCGUGAGCCAAAUCCGGUCUAUGAGAUAAAGCAUUCAGAUUGAACUACCGGUAACAUUAUCAGUUUCUGGUCCAUCCUUAAUGGGGAUGCAAAGAACAAAAUUAACUAACUUUUGCCACUAUAGAAUGUUUGUUCAACUAAAUAAAAUAAAGAUUGUCCUAUAACUCUAGUUCCAUUCAAGUUAAAACUUCUUCAGGCAAGAUAAUAGUAACAUAAUGCUAAAAGAACCAGCACAACCACCACGUCAGGAGCUGCCCAUAUCCAAUAGUUCAUCGACUUCUUACGUUUCAGGAUGGCUUUUGGGAGGGACUCGGUUCUUUUGGUUUGAUUCCUGUACCUACUAGUAUUCUCCUUUGGUACUUUACCCUUCAUUGAAAUUGUAGCAGGAACAGGUGCAUCAGUAUUAACAUCGACCUUCUCGGGUUCUGAAUCUUGUGCCACAGCUUCAAUCAGUUCCUCGGGAUUCACAGCAUUUGUCGAUCCUGCCACCUUCUUCUUAGCUCUCUUUUCACGCUCCUGAAAAAAAGAUCGAAAGAGUUUCAGUUUCAACCCACAAACUAAUAACCGAUAAAGUGAAGCCAGAUAAGGAAGCAAAUGAUUUCCUUGAGCUUCUUUUGAGCUUCCAUUUGAGCUCUUCUAGCUGCUUUGGCUGCUGCUUUUUCAGCCAACUUCUUUUUUCUUUCCAUGGCUUGCUUUGCUUUCGCUAUUUCCUCUUCUCUCUUCAAUUCUUUCAGUUUUGCUGCAUCGACUUCCUUGUUCUUUUGCAAUUUUCCGGAUACCAAAAUUUCCUCUGCUACAACACUAAUAUCUGACAAAGGAUUCGACUCCAUUGCUAUAGUCUCGGCAUCUUUUGGGGCCUUUUUGGCUGGUUUAGUAUCUGUUUGGGGACCUGAUUUGGCCUCUUCCUUUGGUUUUCUUACACUAGGUCUCAGAAUUGUUUCGGUUUCAGAAUCCACUGGUUUCUCGGGUGCAACCAGUGGUUUCUCAUCAGGAUUCCUUAUCCGACCAUCCCGACUCAAUAGCCGACUGUCCAGAGAUGGCAGAGUUCUUUUCUCAUAAUCAUCCCUGAAGGCUUUAUUGCCUUCCAGAGAGCCAUAAACUUCUCAACCUAAAAGGAAUAUAAAAGAUAAGUGAGCGGCUAAUUAUAAAGCAAAUGAGAUACAUUGGAAGUAACAUUAACAAGCAGUCUCAACAAACCUCCACAAUUGAUAACUCCUCAAGAGCCUUUAUAUCUUUCUGUGCAGCGAGCAGUUUGGCGUUGUGUACAAUGGUACGGCUCUGGUAAAAGUGAGAAUUCUGAAAUUUUGAGAAAGAGUAAUUAAAACGAUUCAUUAGUAACAUCGUGCACAGGAAUAUUGGAAGUAGACAUAAUAUGUAUCAUUUAAUAUCUUAAGUGACACUAGUUAUUCAUGCAUAAAUGAAAAUGUUCCGACAUGGUCAAGUAUUACACGAAACAGAUAUCUUAAGAGUUGAAGCAAAGAAAAGGCGAUACCCCCUGAUCACUUUGUUUCCUCAGCUCCUGAAUGUUUUCAAAAGCUUUGUCCCUCUUCAGGGUCACAGCUUUCAGCUCAUUUUGUAAAGACACGAUUUUAGUCUCAGUUUCGUCCAAUUUAUCUUUAAUUUGCUUUUUUUUGGACCAGACUGCAUGCUGCUCCUUCCUUACUCCAUUCAAAUCGACACCCAUAAGCUACAAUAAACAAAUAUAGCUUUUUUUUUUUAGUGUAACACAAUGGUGCUCUAUAUUCACAUAUAAAAAGAGGAGCAAACUCCGAUGGAUAAAGGCAGAAAAUAGAAUUAUCUUACUUUAACUUGAUCUUGAAUGUCUUCUUUCUGGCCUAAUGAAUCUUGAAUCUUUGAUCUCAUUGCAGCAUUAGCAAUAACUUUCUCGCGGGUUCCCUCCAGGUGUUUGAUUUCUUUAAGGAUUCGCUUCUCCUCACUCAACGAGAUGCCUUCAUGCUGAAUGCGGUAUUGCAAGCUAUGGAUCUGCAAUUCAUAAAUUCCAUUGAAGUGACUAAAGGAGAAAAAGAAAAGCAUUAACUGCGGCAGAAAACAAUGAAUAAAUCUAAAUGCAGUCAAAGUUCAUAGAAGUAUCAUACAAUAAAAUCGAGCUCUUCCUCAGAUGCACAUAAACUAAGUCGAUUAUCAACAUCUUUAUUUUGCGAAGCUUGCCUAAAGCCUGCUGCAGUGGUUCUAUUUCCAUCUUUUUCUCAUCUAAAAUCGUCUUAAAUUGCUCAAAAUCAACAUUCAGCGCUCUCACUUGCGAAAGCAUAUCUGACCGUUCUGCCUGCAUUAGCAUAAAGAUAAUCACAAUUUAGCCAACUGACGGCGCCAUUAUUUUUUACUUCUUUCACAUUUUUUCUCAAAUUCUGAAGGCAAACACAACAAUAACGAAUCAUUAUACCAAUAGCAUAUCUGUAAGUGUCAUUACGUUUCAAGGACAUAAAUUUCAAACAUUCAAAUAAAUGCUUCCGGGUUUAAUUCCCCUACAUUCAUCAUAUUACAAUAAGCACACCGUAAUGACAUAAUGAUAGGGCUAAUAAUUAUCUUAAAAGUAUGACAAUUAAUGGCUACCAUGCUAUACAUCUAAUUGAAAUUAUUAACUUUUCACUCACCCUUUUUGCUUUUAAUUCGUCGGUAAGCUUAAACCGGCUUUAUUCCACUUUUGUAUCUCUUUAUCAGCCUGAUCAAGUUUGGCUUUUAUAGCCGGAUCUUCGUAGAAGCGAUACCUAAUAAAAUGAAAAGAGUGGAUCUGCUUAGGUGCAGGCCACUCGACGACCGCAUCCUUCGGAAAGUCGGGAUCGGAUGCACCAUUCUCUUCUCCUUAUCAGGUUCCUCACUAUGUGAAUCAACUUCAAUGGGGUUAUUAUAAACUGGAUCCUUAUCCAGUUUCCCAUUUUCAUGAAGAAAUGAUUUGUCUACUUCAGUCACUUUGUCAAUAGACAAUUGUGCCAGGUCUGAAUCAACAACCUCAACACCCAUUAGACACAAAAUUGAGCUACCUGAAAACAUCCAAAGACAAAGAUUAUGACACCAUAUAACAACAAAUAUAAAUAUAAAAUAUUAUUUCAUUCAUAAAAUAAAAAUUUUAAAACAGACACCUGAUAGACAUGUAUAAAACAAUAUAUAUUAAAUAAAUAAAUUUUAAAGAACAGUGUAGCCAAUACAAUUUGAAAUGGUGCAAUCUAAAGUCAUUCCUUUAGCUAGUUUUCUCAUUAAUCAGAUCAAAAGAGUGAACAAACAGUAGAAUUGCAAAAAUAUAUGUAUAUAUUCUAAAUAAAUGAUAAACUAUAAUGGAGAAAAACAAUAAUCAGAUAAAAUCUAGAUCAAAAACUAAAUUAUAAGUACAUUAGCUCAUGCUAUAACAAAAGAUCAAGCCUUUAUCCGUCAAGAAAAUUAACAUGCAAAAUCAUAUGACACUAAUGGAAAAGACCCAGAAAUUUACAAACAUGAGAUAAAUGAAAAACAAAAAAAAAACCCCAGAAAUAAAAACAUGAGAAAUAAUUAUGUAGUUUGCAAGGCAGAAAGUUUACAUUUUUAAAAAGAAAAAGUCAAAAUAAGAUGUUUUUGUUGUCGAGAGAGGCAUAGAUACAGAGGUUCUGAAUUAAAAAAAACUUUCAACUUUUUUAUUUUACAUUCGCGUGAUGCCUCAAAUUUUAUAAAGUUUAGGUGUUAAAAGUAAUUUGAUUUGGUGUAGUAGUUAAGUGCCUUGAAUGUUUGCUUUGGGUUUGGGGUUCAAUUUUUUUUGUUAAAUUUUUCCUAUUUAUUAUGGUAUUUGUUAAAUUUUUCCUCUUUAUUAUGGUAUUAUGUUCAACUUGAGCCUUAGGUCUUAUCUCUUAUUUUCAAUGAUGAAUCUACUCGUUCAAUGGUAAGACUUUAGCUUAUCACCAAUUUAAAUUUUAUAAAAUCUGGUAAGUGGGAUUUAGAUUAACUUAAAUCUUUUUAUUUAUUUAUUUUAAUUUAAUUUUACUAAAUCUCUAUUUUUACUCAUUGUUUCAACCAUUCACACUCUCACCCCACUUUGUACGCUACUUUCUUUUGUUUCCCUAUUCUGCGGUUUUAUCUUCUUUUCUCUUCCUUCUUUCUCCUCUUUGAUUAUUCCUGAAUACUACCGUUUAUUUUGUGAGUUCUGUCACUUGGAUCGUAUUCUGUUUGCAGUGUAAGUUUCAUUUGGUAACUUUUGUUCUCUUCCCAUUAAUAGUUUAGUUUUAUUUCGUUUCUUGAACAAAUUGAGCUUAUGUUGGUAUUUUCUGUUCAUUAUCAUGAUUAGUAUUUUUGUGGUUCUCGAUUAGGCAAAAGGUGUGAGAAUCCUAACCCUCUAGCAAUGUAAUCACAAUUUUCGACGUUGUUUUGGAGAACUAAGUAUUCGAAUUCUAUUUUAGGGGCUGAAAUUUUGAUUCAACGAUGUUAUUUUGGAUAAGUAUUGUUAGUUCAUCCAUGUGGUUUGAUGAACGUUUAUAGGAUUCGUGAGUUCCAAUUGAGCGGUUGAUCAAAUAAGCAAUAGGUGUAUGAAAUUAACCUGAAAACUCAAUCGAAACUCGAGAAAAUUAAGGACCACACGACUAUGUGGGUAUUUUGGCCAAUUUUAAGCCCCAAUUAGGGGCCGAUUAAAGGACUCAAAUAUUGGGUCCAUAGCCAUCAUAUAAGCCCAAAAAAAUGUAAGUUUUAGUACGUAUAUAUACAUGGCUAAGCUUAGGAGGUAUGUUAAGUAGGUUGUAUAUAAAUCAUAUGCUAUGUUAUGUUCCUUAUAAAAAUAUGUGUAUGCAUGUCAUACGACUUAUGAUAUAAGUAUUUAUGAUAUUAUAAUUAUGAUUAUGCCUAAGUUUUGGAAUGGCUUAUGAUAUGAUGGAGGAAGUGUUAUAUGAUAGUUUUUACCGCAACUAUGGCGGCUAGACUAUAAAAUUUCCGUUUGACAGCUCAGUUGCAUAUUUAUGAGUGACAUACCACCACAUAUUGGUGUGAUUGGAUGGAUGGACUCUUGUAGUCCUAAUUGGUGAUAUUGCUUGAACGAAGAUGGUAUGAAGCAAUUGGGGGUAUGAUGUCUUAUGAUAUGGGAUAUGAUAUAAUAAGAUAAGAUAUGAAACAUGCUAUAACAUGAUAUGAAAACCGAUAUGAUAUAAGAUAUGCUCCGAUAUGCUAUGAUACAUUCUGAUUUAUAUAUAUACUACAAUGUGUGGGUCAAAUCACACACUGGAUGUUAAGCUCACACGUUUGUUAUUUCUGUUUCAGGUGAUCUUCAGAGUAAGGAUUGGAUGAUGACUAUAGAGCUCGUAUUUCACACUUUCGGUUUAAGUAUGCAUUGGACUCUCUUUUGUUUAUAUGGACUUUUUGGACUUUUGGAUAUUUAAAAUUUAUUUGGGAUGCUAAAAAUUAUUUUGCAUUUAUUUUUCAAAAGUUUUAACUUUUAUCGAUACUUAAAUCAAGACAACUAAAAAUAAACCAUAGUUAUAAGGAAAAUUUGCUAUAAUGCUUUUUGCUGCAAGUUUUAAGGUCAAUUUGCUAUAAUGCUAUCCGCUAUAAUUAAGUUUUAUUGAAAUCUGCUAUGAUGUUUUAUCUCACAAACAAAGUAAGUAAAUUAAAUACAUUUUUGUAAAAUUAACAAAUAUGGUUUUCUUCAAUGUACUCACGGGUUUUAAAAAAUGGUACAUCUUCACCAGGUUAAUCAAACUUGUUUUCUUUUGAGUUAAAUAGUUUUUGCCAAAAUGAAGUAAUAUUGUUUUCACAUACAACGUAAUCUCCACAAUCUGACUGUAACAUCCAAGCAAUGUUUGGGGUGUUAGAAUUAGAGUUUUAAAAAAUAAUUACUUUUUCUUUUACAAGUUAAUGUCAUUGUAGGGUUUGAUUGGUUAUCUUCAACUUUAACAGUUAAGCUUCUAAAGUCGAUGAUCCUAUUUAAAUAUAUAAAAAUUCUUUAUAUUUAAAAGAUGUUCUUAUAAGAAAACAAAGAUGUCAUAUAUGAUUGUUGCAUGUAAUUAUAUUAUUUUAUGAUUUAGAUCAUAUAUGAUUGUUGUCAUGAUAUAUAAGCAUUUAAUUAAUAUUUUAAAGUUUUAAAAAAAUAAUAAAUAAUUUUAAAUAAUUUAAAAAUUUUAAAAAUAAGUUAUAUAUAUUUUUAAAACCUUAAAAAUUAUUUAAAAACUAAUGUAUCAUCCAUAAUAAAUCAUACAUCAUUAACACAUAUUGGGGCAUGCGAAAGCUUUUAAAAAAUUGAACUCAAAUAGUGGUCUACAUGGUUCAUCAAGGCAUGGCAAGUAAGUGAGUUGAAGCAAUUUGUGUCAUGAUUGCCUGUAUUUCUCUCAUAAUUUCUUUGUCACUCUGCCCCCGUGACACAUUGCAAAAUCUCCUACAUUUCAAAUAAACUGAUGUCAAGUAAAACAUUAAAGCAGAAGAGGAUCAACUAUUACCCUCACUAUCUAUUUCAAUGCUAAAAUUCCACCUCUCCUCUCCAACACCUCAUUGGUAGCCUUACUCAUCAUAACCAACACAACCCUUUCUUUUUCCAAUACAUUUCCAGAAUGUACACUUUUAUUAUAAGAAAAUAUCCAAAAACAUUUUACCAGAAAGCUGGGCUGUGGGGUUGGGAAUGAAGGAUUUCACGCCUUCAUCUUUGGGAAGCCCAUAUUUCUUCACUUUGGCAAAACUCUCUUCUGGGUCGAUUCUACAAAAUAUUUAUUAGCUCAUUUUGUGAAAGAGGUAAUUGUGAGAUGAUUGAUCAUUUUGUUUCUACAUUAUAAGUAAAAAUUGUAAUAUAUACCUGAACUUGAGUUGUCAUAUUCUAAUAUUUCUUUGCUCAAUAUUUACUUGAUUGUAUACAUUAGAUUUGCACCCGAAGCAAUAGUUUUAGAACACUUACAGUAAUAGUUUUAGUCUUUCAACUUCAUCAACUAAUCUUUUAUAGUUAUGUGUAUCGAUUGUGGUCAUAAACCAACUAAAAAUCUGAUUAAGGUAUAUGUACUUAUCAAUUAAUAGUAUAGUUACGAUGAAUAAAGAUAUCAUUCCCACGAUGGCUAAAAAUACUAGUAAUUAUUGUCUUUCUAUUAUUUAACCGACAAAUUGGAGUGAUUGAUUAAAACUAAAAUUAAAUUAACUAAUUAACUAAAGAACAUGACAAAGAACAAAUCAGAAAAAUAAACGAUUAACAACCAAAAAGCGAGACAAUACCCAGGAAAUAAUCCACCUAGACUUCAUCUGUCAUUAUCAAUCUAAAUCACGUAAUUUCUUCACUUACUAUCUUGAUCCGUAGAAAUCCCUAAAUUAUGGUAAUAUCACUCUUCAAGACUAAGAGUAACUGACUCUAGAUUGAUUAAUUGAAAUUUCUUUCUAAUUAAAAAUCCUAUUAUCGCAUUAACUCGAUUUAUGGAUUAUUCUAUUAGAUUUGACUCUAAUCCGGUAGAUUUAUGUAAUCCUAUUUUUAGGAUUGUAUGCAACUCCACUCAAUUACGCUAGAUCUACUCUUAAAUAUGGUCUAUUCCUCCUUUGGUUUAAGCACAUAAAACAUGAAUCAAUAGUCUAAAAAUAUUAAACUAUGAAUUAAACACACAUAAUUGAGAACAAGAUCUAAGUAUUUAUUCCAUAAAAAUAGAAAUCAAAUAAUAGAAUCCAUCCUAAGUUUUAUCUCCCUAGGUAUUUGGAAAAUUAGUACAUAUAGUAAAUAAAAACAUCCCAAAAAUAGUAUAACCAUAAGAAAUAAAGAAACUCAUAAUAAACUUCAAAAAAAUCAAAAGGAGAACUUCAAUAUUGAUGGAAAUCUACUUCAAAGUCGGCUUUAAUAGUAUUUUCUGAGUUGCUUUCUUCAAUAUAUGACAACUCACUGAUCCCCUCGCUCAUUUUUUACUCAUUUUGCUUCCAAAUGCUCUUCUAAGUAUAGAAACAUGAAUUUAAAGUAUUAGGAGCAUAAAAUUCACCGUUAACACAUUUUCUCUGUAUAUUUAGCAUAUAUUUGAACUUCGAGUUUCUGCUUUGCAGUUUAGGUUCAAAAAUAUGAACCCAUGUUUUCAAAGGUCUAAUUUUUCCAUGAACAGCCGGAAAUGAAAAGAAAAAAAAUAUUUUAAAAAAAUGAAAGAAAAGAAAAAUGAAAAUAUAGUUUAAUGAGACUUACAUAAAUGUCGGGAUUGAGAAAAUGAUUGUCUAAAAAGAAGCAGAAAUUUGGCCGUCAAGCAGAAAUUUGGCCGUCCAAGCCAUCUUAUUCAGUUCACCGAUACAAGUUUCUCCGCUUAGCCGCCGCUACUCUGAAAAUGACGAAGGACUAACUAGUUUAACAACAGUACCAGUACGACGUCAUAAGAAUGUAUUCUACAUGGCAUUCGUGUCAUCUAGCUAAGUCAAACUACAAAGCUACAGUUAGACUUCGAUUUUAGUUGGGUUUGGUUUCUUAGGUGGAGUUCUAUUUAAACUUGGGUUUUGUUUUCGGUUAAAUUACCCUAUUAGUUACUAAAUUAUAGGUUGCUUUUGUGUUGUUCACUUAACUAAAAAAAAAGUUAAAAUUUUGUUAUUGAAGUAUUCGAAUAUUUUCAUUUAAGUCACUAAAACAAGAUCUUUUUAAAUAAGAAAUAAAUAUUUUUUAUAGAGAAAUUUUAUAUAUAAAAAAUAAAAUACUUUAAUUUAAAAGUACAUUUUGUUUAAUCACUUUAAUAGCUUUUGGAGUGAUGAAAAGUCUAAUUUCACUUUCCACCUAAAAUGAUUUUUUUGGUAAUUUUCUUACUGAGCUGGGACUCAAUUGAUAGUUGACGUCAACUCAGUAAAAAGCUUUAACACAGUAUAGAUAAAAAAAAGUUUUAAAUUAAAAUUUUUAAAAGAAUUUAGAGUAAACUACACCAGUCAUUCAACUAUAGGUAAGUUUUCGUUUUAAUCACUUAAAAAAAAUUACAAUUUGAUUACUAAUGCUUUCAUAAUUGUUUUUCUUUUUUGUCAUCCAAUUGUUAAGUCAUACUUGUUUUAGUUAGUAUAAUAAUAAUUUUAGUCCUCAAUUUUUAUAUUUUUUGUCAAUUUGACUCUGAUUUUGUUUAUAAUUACAAAAAAAAACUCACAAUUAUUUAUAAAAUAGAAAAAUGUAUAGAAAAAUUCUAGAAAAAUAAAAUCUUGAAUAUAUUGUUUCAUAACUAAAUUGUAUGAGAAAUAAAGAAAAUUGUCAUUCAAUAACAUCAGAUAAUAAAUUAAAAUAAAAAAAAAGCUAGAUUAUUAUAUGUUUCCUAAAUAUUUCUCAAAACUAAAUUAGUAGUAUUAUCAAACACAUUAAGAAUGAGAUUAAAAUAUGUUAAUUUUGUAGCUUAUCAUACCCCUAAACCACAACUAAAAAGUUUAAUCUGAUAUGGUGGCAUCCACCAUUAAUAAUUGACUCCCAAUUUUGGUUCUUUUUGUCUUGUUUCUCUUUGCACUCGUAGUUUUAGAUCAUCAGAGUCUUCAUGGUGGACCCUAAAGCUUAAAGGAGGCUAAAGAUGGUGGAAUCCAAGGUAGUGUGAAAUAACAUGGUCUUGACCUAUAACACUAAAAUUGCUCUAGCUUAAAUGAAAAUGAAAAUAUUUUGCAUGCAUGAUAUCUUUAGUUUAAAUCUUAUUAUCGAUAAAGUUUUAUUGAUUUAUGAAAAGAUGAAUAUACCUUUGUAAUUAUAUAUCUUACUUUACAAAUAAAAUGUUUUUUUUUAGCAAUUUUCUUAAUGUGUUCGGACUAAUUGAUGGUUGACACUAUGUCAGUAAAAGGCCUAAUACAUAAUAUAGAUUAAAAAAAUUUAAACUAAAAUUUUUAAAACAAUUUAAGGUAAAUUACACCAUUAGUCAUUCAACCAUGAGUAAGUUUUCGCUUUGAUCAUUUAACUAAAAAAAAUUACAAUUUAGUCAUUAAUAUUUUUGACAUUAUUUUUUUAAUCACUUGAGUGUUAAGUGGCACUUGUUUUAAUUGGUAUAAUAAUAAUUUUAGUAUCUUUUUUUUUAUAUUUUCUAUCAAUUUGACUCUUAUUUUGUAUAAAAUUAUAAAAAAAAACUCAAAAUUUUAAAAAUAGAAAAUGUUUAUAAAAAUUCUAGAAAAAUAAAAUCUUGAAUAUGUUGUUGAGUAACUAAAUUGUAUGAGAAAUAAAGCAAAUUAUCAUUCAAUAAAAUUCGAUAACAAAUUAAAAACAGAACAAAACCAAAAAAAGCUUCCUCAAUGUUUCUCGAAACCAAGUUAAUAAUAUUAUCAAGUUAAGUUUCAUGCCCUUGAAGAACAUCUAAAACUGAUAUUACCAAGGCUUAUGAAAUUGACCCUAAUGCCAUUUUUUAGUCAAAAGAAUACAAGAUAUAUAACAAACUUUCCUUUUUCAAACUUAAUUCAAUUUUUCAUUACAUUCAAAUUAUUUUUCAAAACUCAAAUUAUAAAAAUAAAUUAUAUUUAGAAAAAAAAUUUAUAACGUAAAAGUUAUGUCAAGAAACAGAGAAUAAAUAAUUUUGCUUAAUGUUUUUUCUACCUUUUUUACUAAGGAUUGUGUAUUGGAUAUUUCGAUACAGAUAAUAUAGAGAAAUUUUGUACGGCUUAAAAACAAUUAUCUCUCAUUUUCUCUCACUUUAUUUAUUUUUGAAAUUUUUAUCUACUUUUAUUUAAUUUUUUAUUUUAUAAUGUUCUAAAAUUUUAAAAAUAAUUUUAAUUUUUUACCAUUUUAUACAUUAUCAAGAUCAAAUUGACUGAAAGUAUAAAAUUUGAGGAUUAAAAUUGUUAUUAUAUCAAUUAAAAAAGUGUCACUUAACAUUUGAGAGAUAAAAAAAAUUUCAAAAACAUUAGUGAUGAAAUUGUAACUUUUUUAAUUAAGUGACCAAAACAAAAAUGCCCAUAGUUUAGUGACUAAUACUGUAGCCUUUUUUUGGUAAAAUGAAAAUUUGACCCUGAUUUUGUAUUAAAAAAAACUCAAAAUUAUUUAUAAGAUAGAAAAAUAUAGAUUAUUUAACAUAGGGAUUUUUUACCCAAAUCAUAUAAAAAAUAAUUACUUAUGAAAAUGGUAUGGAAUAUAGCUUAAUUACAAAAAUAAGGCAUUUGGUACAAUGUUCUGCUAGUGUCGCCUGGCAUAUUAGUAGUACUAGAUUAAAAUGUGAUGACCUAAUAUAUUCAAGGACUUGAUAUGUAAAUAUCUCAUUUUGGUUGGCUGUUGAAAAUAAGCUAUAAGAGUGUUGUGUGACAGUGUAGCGGCACAAAAUCUUAAAUAGGGUUAAUUUCUUUGUAAACCGUCAUUAUUUAUUAUUUUGUUUUUAUUCUUCUUCAACACCAAAAUCAGAAAGGCUUCUUACCAAUUAAUUCAGGUCAAAUUAUGUCUGGCAUAACAGUUAUCACUAUUGAUAGUAAUUUUCUUUGGCUCAUAUAUAUCUAAUAAAGUGUAAAUUUAACUAAUAAUUAUAAUUUAUAUAUAGUAAAUAUUUUUUUAAAAAUUUUAUAAUUAUAAUUUUAUAUGGUGCCCGUAAAUAAAAUUGAUAAAAAGAAUAUCUGUAAUGGCAGACAGCAAAGAAAAAGCUAAAAGAAACUUCAUAAUUUGCCUGUUUUUAUCUUCAGUUUCUUCUUAUCUCUUCUUCACUGCUUUUAAUUUGUUUCGAUGUCCAAGGUCUAUCACAAAUUUUGAAGCAUCCAGUCAACGUAAUUUUCUUUCAUUUCCUUAAUUCAUGACAUGCUUUUCUUUGCUUUUGAUUAUCUGCUACUGUUAUAGCAGCUAGCUUUGUAAGAUUGUCAAGGACGUGAACUUCACUGCUUCAUUUUCAGUUCUAAUCUCUCAACACUUUUCAGCCACUAAGUCAGGUAAUAGGAUCUGAGGCAAUGAUUUCCUCUACUGAUUAUCAACAGUUUUAGAUUUUAAGACAAGAUGAUCAGCACACAUAAUCUACUCUAGAUUGAAAUUAAUACAGAAAGAGCUACCCAGAAGCAAUAUAAUGUUGAAAUCUCAAACUGUUAACAUUUUAACUCUUCAUAUUCUGUAAUGAACUGGUGCACACUUGAAUCUAGCAUUUUAUAUACAUCGAGAGCUUAAUUCUAGUGACCAGAAUUUCAUCAUGUUUCUGUCUGCCACCCAUCCAUAGCUCCAUCUAAUAAACGCCAUUGCUUGAAACUUGCAUUCAUGCUUACACUGACAAUACUUCAUGAUAUAUCCAAUUCAUUCGCAGAUUUUCAUUCUCUGCUACUGUUAUAUAUGAUUGCAUUGCAGGGACAUAGCAAUGGAAUACGUAGAGCCUGUUGCCGGCAUUGCAACUUGUCUCGGAACUCCUGUUUGUAAAUAUUUGCAAUAUCACAGAAAGCUGAACGAUUAUGUGAGAAGCUUCAAGAGGAUCAGAGAUGAAUUGAAUUGCAAAAUGGAAGAUAUAGAGCUGCAAUUGAAAGCAGAGCUUCUUUCUCCUGGGAGGAAGAUACCAAAGCAGGGAGUUGAAAAUUGGUUGAAAGAUGCGAAUGAGAUGAUUGCGGAAGCACAGGAUGUGGAAAAUAAAGUCAGAAACGGGAGAUAUCUCUGUCGUGCUUGCAACGGGAAGCUGGUUGAUGAGAAGACUGGAGAAAUGAAGGGAUUUCUUGAUAAAGCUCCUAAUGCCUCUGAAGGUCUUGCCAUAGAUGGUCCAAGUGCUGGGUUGCCGCUGCCAACAUCAGAACUAGUUGGAGAGGAAGCUGUCAGAAAUGAGAUUUGGGCAUGUUUGAUGCAGGAGAAGGUGAGCAAGAUUGGGGUUUGGGGGAUGGGCGGUGUAGGUAAAACCACUAUCAUGAAGCACAUCCACAAUGAUCUUUUAAAGCAACAAAGAUUCGAAAGGGUAAUCUGGGUUACCAUAUCAAAGGAGUUCAAUGUAAUGAAGGUACAAGAUGAUAUUGCAGCUGCUUUGAAGUUGAAGGAAGAUUGGCCUAGAGAAGGAGACAAGCUCAGACGAGCUGCAAUCUUGUCAGAAAUUCUGAAGAAAGUAGGAAAGCAUGUUCUAAUCCUAGAUGAUGUGUGGGAUGAAGUCUCUCUAGAAGAAGUUGGGAUCCCUGAGCCGAGUGACAGCAAUGGCUGCAAGUUGGUGUUGACAACCCGUUCGGAGCAUGUCUUUAAGUAUAUGGGCUGCACGGUGAUAAAAGUGAAGCCCGUUUCAGCACAACAGGCAUUGACACUAUUCUUGAGUAAAGUUGGCCCGAACAUAGUGCAAAAUCAAACUUUAAUGCCAAUUUUGAGGCUCGUUGUUGAAGAAUGUGCGGGUCUACCUCUUACAAUUGUCGUCAUAGCUGGUACAUUGAGAGGAGAAGAUGACCCUCUUAUUUGGAAAAAUACACUAAGGGAAUUGAAAGAGAGAAUAGGGAAAGUGCAAGAAGGGGAAGAUAAAGUGAUCGAGAGUUUGAAAGUUAGCUUCAAUCACUUAAAAGACGAGAAAAUGAAGCAUUGUUUCUUACAUUGUGCAUUAUAUCCCGAAGAUUUUGGAAUUGAAAAGCAUGGGCUAAUUGAUAGCUGGAUUGAAGAGGGAUUCAUAGAUGACAUGAGUACAAGACAAGAAACGAAAGAUAAGGGCCAUGUUAUUUUGAAGAAAUUAGAAGAUAAUUGCUUGUUGGAAAAGGUCUCGAGUGUAACAGUGAAAAUGCAUGAUGCAGUGAGAGACAUGGCAUUGUCGAUCACAAGAAUGAAUCCUCGAUAUAUGAUACAAGCAGGUUCGCAAUUAGAAGAGUUACCAGAAAAGGAGCAAUGGAGUCCGGAUAUUGAGAAAGUGUCACUUAUGUAUAACUCCAUAUCAGAAAUUUCCAUAGAUGUGCUGCCCACAAAAUGUCAACUGCUCACAACCUUGUUAUUGCAGGAGAACCCUAUAAAGAAGAUCUCAAGUUCUUUCUUCACAAACAUGCCUUGUCUUAGUGUUCUCAAUUUGUCCUCUACGAAGAUCAAAAGUUUACCAAAUUCCAUCUCUGAACUAAAGAACCUCACAACAUUGUUGCUUUGUGGUUGUGAAGAAUUAAGAGAUCUGCCAUGUCUUUCGAUGCUUCAAGAAUUGAAAAAGUUGGAUCUUUCUGGGACUAAAAUUGAGGAAGUCCCUGAAGGAAUGGAUAUGCUGAUAAAGCUAAGAUAUCUUGAUCUUAGAGUGCGCACUCUGAAAGAGAUACCCGCGGGACUUUUACCAAAACUCGUUCACCUUCAGCACUUGGGUUUUCAUGAGAACAAUGAAAAAACAAGUCUAAAAGCAGAGGAGAUGGAACCAUUGAAGAAGUUGGAGUACUUAACCGGACAUUUCGAAGACAUCAGUGAAUUCAAUAAGUUCAUCUCCUCAAUGCAACAAAGUAAGAAAAAUAUCAUCAAGUACUUUUUACAGGUGGGCUCAUAUAAUGUGUGUAUUGGAAGGGAGAAAAAAGUAACAAUUGGAGGAGUCCAGAAUUGGGAAGGUGAGUUAAUUAUGCACCCAAUUGAAAUUCGAGAUUUGACUAUUAUAAGGUGCGACUAUUUCAGAAACUUAGUCGAUGAUGAUUCUUCCUUCAAAAAUGCGAUUGACUUGAGGGUUUGUAGGAUUUGGGGGUGUGAAGGGAUAGAGUGUGUUGUUUCCCUGUCCUCUUUUGCCUCUUCUUCCGCUCAUCUAUUUCAGAGCCUCGAGGUGUUGUAUCUUCGUGAUCUGCCAAAGCUGAGUGCCUUUAUUAUGAAUGAUGCAGGAAUUGGUUCAGCAACAACAUCAACAUUGGCUCCGUCUGCCACCUUUUCCCAUCUCAAGGAAAUUAUGAUAGUGAACUGCUCAAGUAUGAAGACGCUGCUUCCACAUUGGUUGCUUCCAAACCUCCAAAACCUGGAAGAAAUAGAUGUGGAUGCUUGUAGUCAGCUAGUAGAAAUAUUGGGAGCAGCAACAUCAGAAGUCGAAGAAAAAGGGAGUGAUGCAUUAAUCAAAUUCCAUCUUCCUAAACUGAGAGUGCUGUCAUUCUGGGAAUUACCAAAUUUGAAGAGCAUAUGCAGCAAAAGUGGAGUGAUGGUUUGUGAUUCUCUCCAACUUAUCCAAGUUGCUGGAGACUGUUAUAAACUGAAGAGAAUUCCUCCAUUUGUUCCUCUUGUUGGCAAUGGGCAGCCAUUUGCAUAUGCUCCACCUUCUCUUACCAUCUUCUCAAGCACAGCAUGGUGGGAAUCGUUGGAGUGGGAUGACCAUCCAAACUUUAAAAAUGUUCUUCGCUUCAACCCCCGUUGAGGAUAAGAGGUAUGAACCAUUUAUGGUUUAGUUUAUUUUUUUUAUUUUGAUAAAUCUAAUUUCUCCAUAUUAAUUAAAUUUGAAGUAUAUUUGUGAAGAUGUUGAAGAGAAAGAUAAAAGGGUUGGUGGGAAAGAAGUAGGGGGAGGAUAGUGCAAAAGAGAGGAGAAAAGGAAUGAUGGAAGAACAUGGAGACUGAGGGGCAAAGGUAAAUAAGAAAUCAAACUGUCUCCCCUUUUUAAACAUUUUCCCUCUCUUGCCAUUCCUUCUAUUCUCUUAUAUAUUCUUCUCUAGUAUAUAUAUAUAUAUAUACACUUCCCAAAAUAACCUUCUAAAUAUUUAUUAUUAAAAUAUUUAUAUUAAUCAAAAUGAUUUAAGGUGAGACAAAACUAUGAUCAUAGUUUUAUUUCCAAUAAAAGUUAGGAAAGUAUUGUAAAAAGACAUAAUAUUUUUUAAUUUCCAUGUAAAAUUUCUGGAAACAUUAAGAUUUAAAAAAUAAUAAUAUAGUUAGAAAUUAAUACCAAGAGAGCUACCCAGAAGCAAUAUAAUGUUGAAAUCCCAAACUGUUGAACAUUUUACCUCUUAAUAUUCUGUUGCACACUUGAAUCCAGCAUUUUGUAUACAUUGAGAGGUUAAUUCUGGAUAUACAAAUUUCAUCAUGUUUCUGUCUGCCACCCAUCCAUGGCUCCAUCUAAUAAACGCCAUUGCUUCAAACUUGCACUCAUGCUUACACUGACAUAUCAAAAAGCCAAUACAUUCACAGAUUUUCAUUCUCUGCUACUGUUAUAUUUGCAUGGACAUAGCAAUGGAGUACGUAGAGCCUGUUCUUGGCAUUGCAAAUUGUCUCGGAACUCCGGCUUAUAAAUACUUGCUGUAUCACAGAAAGCUCAAUGAUUGUGUGAGAAACUUCAAGAGGAUGAGAGAUGAGUUGAAUUGCAAAACGGAAUAUAUAGAGUUGCAAUUGAAAGCAGAGCUUCUUCGUCCUCUGGGGAAGAUACCGAAGAAGGGAGUUGAAAAUUGGUUGAAAGCUGUGAAAGAGAUGAUUAGGGAAGCACAAGUUGUUGAAAACAAAGUCAGUAACGGGAGAUAUCUCUGUCGUACUUGCAACGGGAAGCUGGUUGAUGAAACGACUCGAGAAAUGAAGGAAUUUCUUGAUAACGCUCCUAAUGCCUCUGAAGGUCUUGCAAUGGAUGGUCCAAGUGCUGGGUUGCUACUGCCAACAUCAGAACUAGUUGGAGAAGAAGCUGUCAGAAAUGAGAUUUGGGCAUGUUUGAUGCAGGAGGAGGUGAGCAAGAGUGGGGUUUGGGGAUGGGCAUAAAAAAGUAUUAAAAUAGAUCAUUGCUAAUUCUCUGUUUUCUUAAUCGGUAAGUUUCUCUCUUCAAAUCCUUUUAUUUCUUUAUUGAAUCCAUGGCAUAUCAUUUGCAAACCGAUUUCUGUACAGUUUGUUUGUUCAAUUUUCACUUUCCAGUUUUUUUCUUGAUUUAGAUGGAAGAUUCUUUUGCUGCAUUUGAAGAGUUUCUAAAAAUUUUAGUGUUUUCCUAAAUCUAACUUUCUCGACACCAGGUGCACGUAUAAAUUCCUUUCGUGGAGAUUAUUUAUCAUGUUUGUGUGUUUCGUCUUUUGAGGUUGAGCUGUUUUUAUUUUCAAAAAUAAAUAUUUAUUUUCUUUUGCAUUUAUUUCUAAGAUCACCAUAAAUUGUUUAGGGUUGUCGAUUUUGGGGAUUUUAUGGAUAAAUUUUUUUUCAUAUCAGAUGCUCCAACUUUGUGCUUAUGAGUGAUCUUCAAACCUAGGUUAAUGCUGCUCUGACGAAUGAAGAUACUUGCAUGGAUGGAUUCUUAAGCAGGGCUAUGAAUGGGUAUGCAAAGAUGAUGGUGAGGAAACGAAUUAUUAAGAUUACACAAUUGACGAGCAAUGUUUUGGCUCUCAUCAAUAACUACGCUUCAUCUCAGAUCCUUCAUUGAUUUUCUUGAGAAAAUUUUGAUGGCAAGGAAAGCAUUGUGUUUCAUGGAUUUAUGUUCAAUAUGGGAUUUUAUGGUUUUCGAACAAGACUUAAGUUUUUAAGGUACUGUAGAUUGUGUUCUCAAUUCUAUGUUUGUGGUUAUUGAUUUUUGCAAUUGUAUCGGUUUGAAUAUGAAAUUUGUGUUCGUGUAUAUUUAGGGGUUUUUUUAUUGUUCUUUUAGUAAUUUUAAAGCCAUUUACUGAUGUGGUAUAUAAGAGAAAAUAAUGUUCUGUUAGUAUCUAAAUUCAUUUGGACCGUCAUGUCAGAGGUUAAUGUUGACCGUUAAAUAGCUAACGGCCACAUCAGCCUCUAUGUUAAAAACAAACCAAUUUGUUAGAAAUUUAAAUUUUACACUAUAAAAUUAAUUUUUAAAAUUAACUAUUCAAUUUGUAAUUGAUUUUAUUAAAUUAAAAUAUUCACUAAUUUUUAAAAAUAUUCUCCAUGUUAAUUAAAAAAUAUUUAAGAAUUCAGUUAAAUGAUAAUCAAUUUAUAUUAAAAUUAACUAUUCAAUUGGUUGUAUUAUUUCAUUAAUGUUCUUAUAAUAUUAUUUCAUUUUUAUUUAUAGACACCAACUUCAAAAUCAGAAGAGAAUUAAUUUACGAGAAGAUAUGAUUUAUACUGUAAACGAUAAAUAAGAUAUUAUCAAUUGAUAUGAUAAAAAUUUAAAUAAUAUAAAAAGAGUAGCAAAAUAAAUUGAAAACAUUUGAUAUGGUCUAAAUGAACUAUAAUAAAAGGAUUAUAUAUUUUGAAAUGGUGAUUUGAGAGACAACUAAUCAAUCCUACUAUCUUGUCUUUUUUAAAUAAUUUGGGAUCAAAGAUCCAUCAAAGAUGACUCACAUAUGUUUCCCAAAGAUACGAUAAAUAUAUAUAUAUAUUCCUAUCAAGCAAGUUGACAGCUAAAGGGUGCAAUUUUGACGUUGCUAAAUUCUCUAGCAUCAAAGAGGCAAGAUAUGUUGCAAACAAGACAUAAAUUACCAAUAUCAACCCCUACUUUUGUAUGAUAGAGAAAAUAUGAUGUACAAGUUUACAGUCAUGGAAUGUAUUAGGUGCAUUGAAGAUAAUUCGGUGUUAGAAUCAAAGAUAUUUAUCGGUAUUUUUGUUAAUUGUAAAAUUGUGCAUAAACUGGAAAAAAUGUUUGAUUGCCAUUACAAGAAUUUCUUUAAAGUUAAUAGUUUGAAAGAUAAUUUUAAGUAGGAGUUGGAAGGCAUUGCUAUAAAGAGAAUCUAAAGAAAGUAAUUUCAUUUUGAGUUUCAAGUGAAAGGAAUGAAAGAAAGGUUGCUUAAAUAAAUACGGAAUUGGAUAUUGAGCUGUUUUGAAUAGUUGGAGCGAAGGACACAUGGACCAUAUGAAAUUCUAGUCUACCAAAGUAAUGCUAAUCAGAUUCCUCUUUGGAAAUGACCAACUUUUCAAAACAUUGUCAAUCUACCUUGAAAGGUGGCAUCGGUGAAAGAAUCAAUCAUGAAAUAUUAAAAUUAUACUAAAAUGACUAUAAAGAUUUAUUUCCCCCAUAAAUAAACAUAUUCUUAUUCUUCCUUAAAAAUUAACAUGAUUUUAUCUUAAUAUACAUGUAUAUAUAUUUAUGUGUCAAAAUAGCCUUCUAAAAUAUUUAUUUUAGAAAAUAAUUUAUAUAAUACAUAUAAAAUUAAUUAUAAACUUAUUUUGAUAUGAUGUCGAAAUUAAAUAUUAUAAUGGUCCUUUACCACAUUCAACACUAACUUUUAUUUUAUUAUUUUUUUAAAAAUAAACUUUAAAUUUUAUAAUAAACAGCAUACAUAGGCUUCAAAUUUUAAGUUUAAAAUAUGGGAUAAUAGUUUACUAUAGACCCAUCCAUGGGCCCUUGACCAGAGUCGGGUGUAUAUAGAUAAAGGUUUUUAUAAUUUGGGUCGGUCCAACUCAAAUUUAAUUUAAAUAAAAAAAUUAUUUUUAAAAUUUAAAUUUAAUUAUAAAAAUAUGCUUCUUUUUUUUUUUUUGAACAUUGAAACGAACUGUUUAGGUAGAUCGAGUUGGGUUGAAAAUGGGUUUGGACUUGAAAAUUUUAGAUUUUUUUAAGAGAAUAAUAAUAUCAAGGAGUCUAGUAAUUAAAAAUUUUAUAUUAAAUUUUUACUGUUUGAAAUCUUCUAAUAACAUAAAAAAAAAUUUAAACCAAAGUUUUUAAAAGAAUUUAGGGUAAACUACACCAUUAGUCACUCAAAAAAGGGUCAAUUUUCAUUUUGAUCACUUAACUAAAAUAAGAUACAAUUUAGUCACUAAUGUUUCUAGAAAAAAAUUUUGGUCACCCGACUAUUAAGUGGCGCUUACUUUAGCUGGUAUGAUAACAAUUUUUGUCACAUCCCAAAAACCAAGUUCGUAGAAAUUGGGUUUGUCAAACCAAGAGUGGUGACGUCCUAUUUUUGAGUUAAGAUUGUGAAAAUUAUGUUAAGUAAAUUGAUUUGGUUCAGUGGUUAAGUGCUUUGGAUGUGUUUAAGGUCUUGUGUUCAAAUCUUUUCCCUUAAAUUUUCAUUAUUUUUGUCCUAACUUUCAUCUCUGAACAUCUAGCUUAUAUAUUAUUUUUGCUCAAUUGAUAAUUAGAAUGAGUUUACUAGUUUAGUGGUAAGGCUUUAGUUUACUUAGAGGUCUUGUGUUUGAAUCUUAUGUGUGUAAAGUGAAAUUAUUUUUGUUUUUAAACUCUAAGAAUUUUUUUUAUAAGGAUAGCUAAUCAAAUUGAGUGUGGAAGUUUUCCAUUUUCCUACAAACUUUCCCCAAAAUUCGCCUCAUUCUGUCGUCCACUUCUUGCCACAUUGUUCACGUUUUCUUUUCCCUUUUCUUCUUCCAUCUACUGAUUUCUAUUUUCUUUUUGCUUUAGUAGUUUUGGAGCCUUCCUUUCUCAUCUUUGCUCUACUAUUUUCUUUUGUGUUAUUAUAUUGGUACGUUGUUGAAUCUCUGUAAUUCCUUCGGGUAAGUGUUGGUUAUUUGUUUUAUAUAAAUGUGGUGUUGGUUUAAUCUUUCAAGUGAUUGAUGGAUUCAAGUUUGAUCUUUGUAAUGUGUUGUUAGGAGAAGAUCGACAGACUCGUGAAUUGUCUCCAGCGGUUUAAGUGCGGGAAAGGGCUGUUGUUCUUGCAAGGGUAAGUGAUUAAAGUUUUCAACUUGAGGUUGAUUCGGUUGUUUAGGCUAAGUGUUUAGCAUUUGUGAUCGAAUUAGUAACUUGGAUUUAGCAUAUUACUAAUAAUUCUUACAUUCUAAAAUGUCGAUUUAGGUAUUGGAAUCCUCGUAUUGGUGUUAACAUCGAAAAUUGAGCAGGUGUGUAACGGAAAAAUCAAAAAAUAGCGAACGGCAAGAUGUCAAAAAACCCACUAUCGACGUCACACAGCCAUGUGCCAAGUUAUGUGGGUCAUACGGGCUGGGUUAUUUGGGCCAUGUGUGUCAGGCUGUGUGCCAGGCCGUGUGGGGCCAUUUUUCGUAAAAUUCUGUCAGGGUCAUUUUUGAAGUGCAAUUUAAAAUUAGUCACUUCUUAGGUUCUGAAAUGUGUUAUGUAUGCAUUCUGGAUACGAAAUUUGAUAUUUUGUUUCUGUUAAUGUGGUUUUUGAAAGCAUAUUAUUCAAUAUUGACAUUGUACGUGUAACAUUUGAGAGUAUGUCUAUGGUAUAAUUUAUGCUUCUGAUCUGUAAUUUGAGAAUCUAUUUAAGCAUGAUUCAUUUAUGUGCAUCUAAGUAUGUAAAAUGUUUUGAUAUGUGCAUUGGGGUGGUAUGAUGAUGUGAUGGAGGAGGUAUUUGGCAGUUUAACUGCAUACUAAUAUUUAUAAGCCAUCGUUGUCGAGCAACUCGAGAUAACUUAAUUUGUGGUUUAAUAUAACUUAAUUUGUGGUUUAACCUCAUAUCUAAUAUGGUGGAUUGAACUCAUUUAUUGAUUUUGGCAGAAUAUCGCAUUAUUUAUGGCAGCUUGACUAUGACUACGCUAUUCUAAAAAGUGAUAUACGCUCACUUAUUGGUGUGACGGAUGGAUGGGCUCUUAUAGUCCUAUUUGGUGUGUAUUGGUGGGAUGGAGAUGGUGUUUAGUGGAUAGGUGUAGGAUCUAUUUCUGUGUCUGUAUUUGCAUCUGUAUUUGUAUCGGCAUCUGAUUUUAUAUAUGAGAUUGCAUCUAUAUCUGAAAUUGAAAUUAUAUAUGUAAUUGAAUUGUCUCUAUUUAUGUAACUGUUACUGUAUUUGAGUCUAUUCUGCCUGUUUGGGUUGAGUUACACACUAAGCCUAUAAGCUCACCCAAGUUCUUUGGCUUUUCAGAUAAUCGGCAUACUAAGGACCAAACGACGUGCAGAAGCUCAUAUUGGGUUCUCAGUUAUUUAAGUAUGAUGGUUCAUGUUUUUAAAUUAUUUUGGACUUUCUAGAUUUUUUGGGGGGUUGUAAAUCUGUUUCUGUAUUUUGCUUUUACGUUUGGGUUUGCUUAGUUGAAUUUAGUAAUUAUUACUUAAAACUACAAAGUUUUGUGUUUUGCAAAUUAAGUCACGAUUUUCGAAAUUUAAUACUUUGAAAUUUCUGCUGCAAAAUAAAGUAAUCAUUUAAGUGUUUUUCUAUAAUAAAAUAAAUAGUUUUAACGAAUGUUUUCUUAAAAACUAGAAAGUGAUUUGCCAGAAUUAAUAUUGCCAAAACACACGAUUUCAAAUUCAAUUUCUAGGUUUUUAAAUAAGUUAAUGUAAUUCCUCCAAAUUUGGUCAUAACGUCUAGGUCGGGUUUGGGAUGUUACAAUUUUAGUCCUUAAUUUUUAUAUUUUUACCAAAUUGACCCUAAUUUUAUAUAAAAAUUAUAAAAAAACUCAAAAUCAUUUAUAAAAUAGAAAAAUGUACGUAAAAUUUUAGAAAAAGAAAAUCUUGAAUAUGUUGCUGAAGAACUAAAUUGUAUGAGAAAUAAAGAAAAGUAUCAUUCAAUAGAAUCCAAUAACAAACUAGGCACAUAAUACAAUAAAAAAGUUAGACCAUUACAUACUUCCUCAACGUUUCUCGAAACCAAAUUAGUAAUAUUAUCUAGUUGAGUUUCAUGCUCUUGAAGAACAUUUAGAACCGGCAUUACAAAGAUUUAUGAAAUCGACCCGGAUGUCAUUUUUUUUAGUCAAAAGAUUACAAAAUAUACCACAAAAUUUUUUUCAAAUUCAAUUCAAAAUUUAAUUAUAUUUAAAAUAUUUUUCAUAACCCAAUUUGUAAAAACAAAUUAUGUUUCUUCUUCCAUGGUCGAGUUGGGCUUGGAAAAGGUUUUUAUGUCUUGACCCGUUACAACUUGAAUUCAAUUUAAAUAAUAAAAGAUAUUUUUAAAAUUUAAAUUUAAUUAAAAAUAUAAAAAUGUUUUUAAUAUUUUAUUAUUUUCUGAACUCUCAAAUGGACUUUUGGAGUGACCAAGCUAGGCUAAAAAUGGGUUAGGCUUGAAAAAAUUUUAGAUUAUUUAUAAGAGUAUAUCAAGGUGUCUAACAAUUACAAUUUUUUUUUGAAAGGUCUUAAUAACACUAGAAAUCUUAUCACACACAUAUGCAUGUGAAAAUCACGUAUUUAUAACACAGACUGUGUUUAAAAAUAACAUACAAUGAAUACUGAAAAGUAUAAUUUGGAACUAAUUAAUAAUAACACGUGAAAUAUGUAUGAUAUUAAAAUAAAAAUUAGAUUAAAUUGAGAGUAAAACAAAAUCUAAACACAAAAAUACAUCAUAUUAAGAAUACUAAAUGAAUACAAAUGUUUAUCAUUGUUUUGUCUUCAAUCCCGAGUUGGUGAUGCUAAAUCAAUAACAUUAUUUACAUACACAAAUAUAUAAAAACUUAGAACACAAAUGUUAUGACAUGUACAUUUCUGACAUUUGUUAAUUCUGCAUGUGCAUUAGGAUGAGAUUUGUGUUUACGGAGGAAGUGUGGGAGUUUAAUUCAUUUGCCUUAUUUGGUGGCUUAGCCACACAUAUUUCUGCAUUUGGCGAUGAAUCACCUAAUGAUCUGGCAGUUAGGCUGCGAAUACUUUGAAAAGUUUUAUAUCGACACUAAGUGGUGUGUAGGGUUUGAUGGUUAUUUAAUACCCUAUAUGGUGUGUAGGGAUGGUCGGAGAUGGUGCGUAACGGAUCGGAGUAGGAUUGUAAUCUACACCUGAUAUGUUCUGAUUCUGUUUCUGUAUAUGAUAUAUGUCUAAUUGACUUCCAAAAGCAUGUUUGAAAAUUAAAUCUAAUAUUUUAACUCUUAUAAGUUACACAUUGAGCUUGUAAGCUCACUCUCAGUUUCUCUUAUUCUUAGGCAAUCCUUAGAUUUAGGUGGGUAGGUGUGACUGGAGCUCGGUUAAUUAUCUUCUUGGUAUAUUUGUUAUUUUAAUUUGGUUUAUUCUAUGUUGGUUUUGAAUUGUUUUUGGACUGUUUUUAAGUUUAGGUUUAUUUUCAUUUUAUUUAUUUAUUUAAACGUUUUUGGUUGGUUUAAAUUUGAUCUACAAAAUGUUAAAUUACAUAGCAACAAACCGUGUUUUCAAAAUCGAACUCAACUAAAAAUUUUCGCUGCAAACGUAAGUGUUUUACGAGUAAAUAAUCGACAAAUUUAUCGAAAUGGCUAAGAAGGAUAUUUUCCCCAAAUAAACUCGGAUUUUACUUAAUAAGAGCUAGCAUUGUUUUAUAAGUCGAACGGAUUUUGGAUUUUCAAAUAAAUUGUAGUAACAUCUCCAGAUUUGGCCAUAACGUCUAGGCCGGGUUUGGGGUGUUAUAGAGCCUAUAAGCUCACCCAAUGUUUCUAACUUCUCAAUUAAUCAACAUAUUUAGGACCAGAUGACGUGCAGGAGAUCAGAUUGAGUUCUCAAUUAUUUAAGUAUGAUGGUUCAUGUUUUUAAAUUAUUCUGGACAUUCUAAUUUUUUUGGGGGUUGUAAAUCUUUUUCUGGAUUUUGCUUUGCUUAGUUGGAUUUAGUAAUUAUUACUUAAAACUACAAGAUUUUGUGUUUUACAAAUUAAGUCAUGGUUUUCAAAUUUUAGUACUCUAAAAUUUUCACUGCAAAAUAAAGUAAUCACUUAAGUGUUUUUCUAUAACAAAAUAAAUAGUUUUAAUGAUUAUUUUCUUAAAAAUUGAAAAGCGAUUUGCCAGAAUUAAUAUUGUCAAAACACACAAUUUCAAAUUUAUUUUUUGGGUUUUUAGACAAGUUAAUGUAAUUCCUCUAGAUUCGACCAUAAAGUAUAAACCAAGUUUGUGGCGUUACAAUUUUUGUCCUCAAUAUAUAUAUAUAUAUAUUGAUCAAUUUGACCCUGAUUUUAUAUAAAAAAAUUAAAAUCAUUUAUAAAAUAGAAAAAUGUAUAUAAAAUUCUAGAAAAAUAAAAUCUUGAAUAUGUUGUUGAAGAACUAAAAUGUAUGAGAAAUAAAGAAAAUAUCAUUCAAUAGAAUCCAAUAACAAUAAAGAAACAAAACGAAAUAAAAAAGUUCAGUUUCAUGCUCUUGAAGAACAUCUAGGAUUGAUAUUACAAAGACUUAUAAAAUCAACCCGGAUGUCUUUUUUUUCCUUGUCAAAAGAUUACAAAAUAUACCACAAUUUUUUUUCAAACUCAUUUCAAGUUUUAAUUAUAUUUAAAUUAUUUUUCAGAACCUAAAUUGUAAAAACAAAAUGUGUUUCUUCUUCCAUGGUUGAGUUGGGCUUAGACAAGGUUUUUAUGUCACGAGCUAUUUCAACUAGAAUUCAAUUUAAAUAAUAAAAAAUAUUUUUAAAUUUUAAAUUUAAUUAAGAAUAUAAAAAUGUUUUUUAAUAUUUUAUUAUUUUUUGAACUCUCAAAUAAACAUUUCUGGGUUGACUGAGCUGGGCUAAAAAUGGAUUAGGCUUGAAAAAAUUUUAGAUUAUUUUUAAGAGUAUAUCAAGAAGUCUAAUAAUUACAAUUUUUUAAAAAGGUUUUAAUAACACUAGAAAUCUUAUCACACGCAUAUGAGUGUGAAAAUCACGUAUUUAGAACACAUAUUUGUUGGUAAAAAGAACAUACAAUAAAUAAUGAAGAGUAUGAUUCGGAACUAAUUAAUAAUAACACAUGAAAUAUGUAUGAUAUUAAAAUAAAAAUUAGAUUAAAUUGAGAGUGAAACAAAAUUUAAACACAAAAACACAUGAAUAUUAAAUGAAUACAAAUGUUUAUCAUUGUUUUGUCUUCAAUACUGAGUUGGUGUCAUGUUCAUUUGUGACGCUAAAUCAAUGACAUGAUUUACAUAUACAAAUAUAUAAAAAUUUAGAACACAAAUAUAGUUAUUAAAGUUUCAAAUGAAAACAUUAUAACUAAUGUAAAUGAAAAAGCUUUAUAUGCAUGGUGUCCCCUAGUUCAAAUAUCAUUAUGGGUAAAUUUUUAUUGAUUUAUAAAAAAAUAUAAAAUGAUGAAAACACCCUCAUAAACAUAUAUCUUACUUUGUAAAUAAAAUAGUAUUUUUGGUAAAAUUUUUAAAAGAAUUUAGGGUAAAAUUCAACUAUGAUUAAGUUUUUAUUUUGGUCACUUAACUAAAAUAUGUUACAAUUUGAUCACUAAUGUUUUAGAAAUUAUUUUUUUUUUGACACCCAACUAUUAAGUGGCACUUGUUUUAGUUGGUAUAAUAAUAAUUCUAGUCAUCAGUUCUUAUAUUUUUUUGUCAAUUUGACUCUGAUUGUGUAUAAAAAAUUAUUAAAAAAGCUCAAAAUAUUUAUAGAAUAGAAAAAUGUAGAUAAGAUUUCUAGAAAAAUAAAAUCUUGAAGUUGUUGAAUAACUAAAUUGUAUGAAAAAUAAAGAAAAUUAUGAUUUAAUAAAAUACAAUAACAAAUUGAAAACAAAACAAAGUUACAUUUUGCACCUUAUACUUGUUCAUAAUAGCUAAUAUUCACAUAAUUUUUCAAUUCACAGCUAAACAUAUAGAUGAAAUAUUCAAGUACAAUUUACACAUAAUAUAAAACCAGAGAGUAAGUUUCAAAUUUAAUGUCACACCCUGAUACAACUCAUUGACUUGUAUAUUUAAUUUCAAGAUGUAUAUUCAAUACUGACAACUUCAACAAUGCAAAUCCUUUAGUAAUGGGGUGCCAAUAACUAUACCUAACGCAGCUCCUUUACUUGUCUAUUUAAUUUCAGGUUAUGCAUUCUGAUACCCUGCCAACUAUUAUUUUUAUUAAAUAUUAUUUAUUGCCAUCUUCAAUGAUUUUGUUUUGAUCUCCAAGGUCUACCACAACAUUUCAAGCAUCCUGUCAAGGUAAUUAAUUUUCUUUCAUUUGCUUAACUCAUCACAUGCUUUUCUUUGCUCGAUUCAUGACUUUGCAACGAUUCUUUCUGAUUAUCUGCUACUCUUAUCAGCUAGCUUUGUAAGACAGCCAAGGAAGAAGUGAACUUCACUGCUUCAUUUUCAGUUCUAUUCACUCAACACUUUUCAGCCACUAAGUCAGGUAAUAAGAUCUGAAGCUAUGGUUUCCUCUACUGAUUAUCAACAGUUUUAGAUUUUAAGAUAAGAUGAUCAGCAGACAUAAUCUACUCUAGAUUGAAAUUAAUACAGAAAGAGCUACCCAGAAGCAAUAUAAUGUUGAAAUCUCAAACUGUCAACAUCUUAACUCUUAAUAUUCUGUAAUGAACUGUUGCACACUUGAAUCUAGCAUUUUAUAUACAUCGAGAGCUUAAUUCUGGUGACCAGAAUUUCAUCAUGUUUCUGUCUGCCACCCAUCCAUAGCUCCAUCUAAUUAACGCCAUUGCUUGAAACUUGCAUUCAUGUUUUCCUUUUCAUGCUUACACUGACAUAUCAAUACUUCAUAAAAUAUCCAAUUCAUUCACAGAUUUUCAUUCUCUGCUACUGUUAUAUUUGAUUGCAUUGCAGGGACAUAGCAAUGGAGUACGUAGAGCCUGUUGUCGGCAUUGCAAAUUGUCUCGGAACUCCUGUUUGUAAAUAUUUGCAAUAUCACAGAAAGCUGAACGAUUAUGUGAGAAACUUCAACAGGAUCAGAGAAGAAUUGAAUUGCAAAAUGGAAGAAAUAGAGCUGCAAUUGAAAGCAGAGCUUCUUCGUCCUCUGGGGAAGAUACCGAAGAAUGGAGUUGAAAUUUGGUUGAAAGCUGUGACAGAGAUGAUUGCGGAAGCACAGGAUGUUGAAAACAAAGCCAGUAACGGGAGAUAUCUCUGUCGUGCUUGCAACGGGAAGCUGGUUGAUGAAAAGACUCGAGAAAUGAAGGAAUUUCUUGAUAAAGCUCCUAAUGCCUCUGAAGGUCGUGCCAUGGAUGGUCCAAGUGCUGGGUUGCCACUGCCAACAUCAGAACUAGUUGGGGAGGAAGCUGCAAGAAAAGAGAUUUGGGCAUGUUUGAUGCAAGAGGAGGUAAAAGAGAUUGGGGUUUGGGGGAUGGGCGGUGUGGGUAAAACCACUAUCAUGAAGCACAUCCACAAUGAUCUUUUGAAAGAACAAAGAUUCGAAAGGGUAAUCUGGGUUACCAUAUCAAAGGAGUUCAAUGUCAUGAAGGUACAAGAUGAUAUUGCAGCUGCUUUGAAGUUGAACGAAGAUUGGCCUAGAGAAGGAGACAAGCUAAGACGAGCAGCAAUCUUGUCAGAAAUGCUGAAGAACGCAGGAAAGCAUGUUCUAAUCCUAGAUGAUAUGUGGGAUGAAUUCUCUCGAGAAGAAGUUGGGAUCCCCGAGCCGAGUGACAGCAAUGGCUGCAAGUUGGUGUUGACAACCCGUUCGGAGCAUGUCUGUAAGUUUAUGGGUUGUAAGGUGAUAAAAGUGAAGCCCCUUUCAGGACAACAGGCAUUGACACUAUUCUUGAGUAAAGUUGGUGUUGAAGUAAUGGUCAGCAUGCAGCAACCAAGACUGUCAAAGGCACUACAUGCAGAAGCUGCUGGUUCACCUAGUCAGCAAGCUGUUUAUGUUUCAUUUUGUAAUUUUAAGUUAGAGUAAUGUAACUUAGUUGCUUUAUAACUAUGUUAGGUUUAUGUUUAAUGUAAUUUUGAUGUUGACUGAGCUGAUAAAUCAGCUUUGUUUGUUUAUUCAAGCUAAUUAGCACAAGUUACUAUGUGUAUUAGUGGUAGUAGGUGAAGUUUAGGUCAACCUACUGUUUUGUCAAGAUUGUAAACUUGUUUUAUGUAUUGGCUUUGUGCCAUUUUUGGUUUGAUGAAUGAAUUCAAGAAGUUAUCAUCCAUAUGCUCUCCAUUUUUAGUUUUGCUUAAAAAUCCAUUUGAGUUUUCUGCUUUGUUUCUCCUACAAGUCACGAGACUUGCCAUACAAGCAUUCUGCUGAAGCUUGCUGCUGCUGCCUCUUGCUCCAACAAUUGGUAUCUAGAGCCACAUUCUUAGAGGACCUGUUGUAGUUCAGUAUCAAAACGAUGGCAUCAUCAGGUUUUUCACCAGCUUCACCACCUGUCUUCAAUGGAGAGGGCUUCAACAUUUGGGCAGUUAAGAUGAGGACUUACCUGCAGGCAUUCGACCUAUGGGAAGUUGUUAACUCAGAUACUGAGCCAGCACCUCUUCGAGCUAAUCCAACAGUUGCUCAAAUAAGGCAACACACUGAUGAAAGGACAAAAAGGCACAAGGCCAUGUCAUGCAUACAGAAUUGUGUGACAGAUGUGAUCUUUAUGAGGAUCAUGGCCUGUGAGACACCAAAGGAGGCUUGGGACAAGCUGAAAGAAGAAUUUCAGGGGACUGAGAAAACAAGGCAACAACAGCUGCUCAAUUUGAGAAGAGAUUUCGAAAAUCUCAAAAUGAAAGAGGAAGAAACAGUUAAGCAGUACUCAGACCAGAUUAUGGCUGUUGUAAACAGCAUAAGGCUCCUAGGAGAGCAAUUCAGUGAAGCUAGAAUGGUUGAGAAAGUCAUGUCCACUCUACCAGAGAGGUAUGAAGCUAAAAUUUCAUCCCUCGAAGACUCAAGGGACUUGACAACUAUCUCCUUAACUGAGCUAAUCAAUGCCUUGUAUGCACAAGAGCAAAGAAGAGCUAGCAGACAAGAGGAGCACCAGGAAGGGGCUUUUCAAGCCAAAGAAGCCUCGAGCAUCAAAACUCAUAAAGGCAAAAAGUUCUGGAAAAACAGGCCUAAGCCUGAUGCUGCUAGGAGCAGUGACCAACUCUGCAGACAUUGUAAAAGAGCUGGUCAUCCAGAAGAUAGAUGCUGGUUUAGACCAGAUGCAGUAUGCCAACACUGCAAGAAAAAAGGCCAUGUUGAAAAAGUUUGCAAGAAUAGAAGCAAACCAAGACAGAAUCAAUUUCAGCAACAAAAGGUGGAAGCUCGAGUAGCUGAAGAAAGCAGUGAUCAAGAAGAACAUGUUUUUGCUGUGUCAUGUGCAGGAAAUCAGAAGAAGGGUUCAAAGGGCUGGCUUCUAGACAGUGGGUGCACAAACCACAUGUCACCAGAUGCAACUAUCUUCAAAACCCUGGACAGAACCUGCAAAACCAAAGUAAAAAUUGGAAAUGGUCAGUUAAUCAAUGCUGAAGGAAGAGGAGAUGUGCUGAUUCAUACUUCUACAGGUGGCAAAAUCAUUUCAAAUGUACUUUUGGUACCUGAAAUCGAUAGGAACCUUCUCAGUAUAACUCAACUACUUGAGAAAGGUUACUCAGUUGUUUUCAAGGAGAAAGAAUGUCAAAUUUUUGAUCCAAGUGGAUCAAAUCUUAUAACAGUCACCAUGACUGAUAAAUGUUUUGAAGUAGACUGGCCAAAUGACUCACAUUCAGCCUGCAUAGCCUCCACUGAUGACUCGAGACUCUGGCAUCAGAGGCUUGGAAUGCAAACUACAAAUCCAUAGCCCGCAUGGUCAAUGAAGGUCUGGCAGAAAAUUUCAUUGAUUCAGUGAAGAAUGAUGAGCUUUGUGAGAUAUGUCAGCAAGGAAAAUUGGCAAGAUUGCCAUUUCCAACAAGCACAACAUGGAGAGCAUCAGAGAAGCUCCAGCUUGUGCAUACAGAUGUGUGUGGACCAAUGAAGACUGAGUCUCUCAAAGGAAGCAGGUACUUUAUUUUAUUUAUUGAUGACUUAACAAGAUACUGCUGGAUUUAUUUUCUAAAACAGAAAUCAGAAGUACCAUCUAUGUUCCUGAAGUAUAAGGCUGCUGUUGAAACUGAGUCUGGUUGCAAACUUAGAGCAAUGAGGUCAGAUAAUGGAACUGAGUACACCUCAGCUCAGUUCCAAGUCUACUGUGAAGAAGCAGGUAUCAAACACCAGUUGACUAAUGUGUAUACACCCCAACAGAAUGGGGUCAGUGAAAGGAAAAACAGAAGCUUGAUGAACAUGGCAAGAUGUCUUCUGUUUGAGAAGAAUUUGCCCAAAAGUCUGUGGGCUGAAGCUGUUAACACAUCAGUUUAUCUCCAAAACAGGCUCCCAACCAAGGCUCUGGCUGAGAAGACUCCAUUUGAAGCCUGGUUUGGGUUUAAGCCAUCACUGGCUCAUCUCAGAACCUUUGGUUGUCUGUGCUAUACUCAAGUUCCAGCUGAGAAGAGAAGCAAGCUAGAUAAAAGAGCUCAAGCAGGGAUCCUGAUCGGCUACAGCUUGGUUAAGAAGGGCUACAGAAUUCUAGAACCUGCUACAAACAAGAUAUUGGUUAGCAGGGAUGUUGUUUUCAAUGAAAAAGGACACUGGAAUUGGGAGAAGGCUGAACCAGAGGCAGUGGCUGAAGAUUUGGCAGUGGACCAAGUUGAAAAUGAUGAAAACACACCUGAAAUGGAUGUAGAUGAUGUUCCAAUCAGAGGCACUCGAUCACUGGCUGAUGUUUAUGAAAGAGCACAAGUGGCUACUGUUGAACCAAGUUGCUUUGAAGAAGCAGAAAACCAGGAGGACUGGAAGCAAGCCAUGAUUGAAGAAAUCAGAAUGAUUGAAAAGAAUCAGACCUGGAGUCUGGUUGAUAAACCAACAAACAGGAAAAUUAUUGGUGUCAAAUGGGUUUAUCGAGUAAAAAACAAUGCUGAUGGUAGCCUAAACAAGUUAAAGGCUAGAUUGGUUGUGAAAGGCUUCAGUCAAAGUUAUGGAUCAGACUACCUGGAAACCUUUGCACCAGUGGCCAGGCUAGACACUAUUAGACUGCUAGUUGCCUUAGCAGCACAAAAACAGUGGCUGAUACACCAACUUGAUGUAAAAUCAGCAUUUCUGAAUGGAUUCCUUGAAGAGGAGAUUUAUGUGGAGCAACCUCAAGGUUUCAAGGUGUCUGGCAAAGAAGAUAUGGUGUACAAGCUCAACAAAGCCUUGUAUGGCUUGAAACAGGCUCCAAGGGCCUGGUAUAGCAGAAUAGAUGGCUAUCUGACCAGUCAAGGAUUUGAAAGAAGUCUUAGCGAGCCAACUCUGUAUGUUAAAUCAACUAGUGCUGAAACUCAGCUCAUUGUCUCAAUAUAUGUCGAUGACCUACUGGUGACAGGAGGAGAUCAUGAGAUGCUAAGCAGUUUUAAAGUCAAAAUGCAACAGCACUUUGAAAUGUCAGACUUGGGAUUGAUGUCUUACUUCUUAGGCAUGGAAGUAACUCAAGCUAAGAAUGGGAUUUGGCUAAGUCAAAAGACCUUUGCUAUGAAGGUUCUCAACAAAUUCUCAAUGGAGAAUUGCAAAGCAACCAGCACACCAGUUGCUGUUGGAGAAAAACUCUCGAGCCAAGACAAGCAUGAAAAGGUUUGUGAAACAACCUAUCGAAGUCUAGUUGGAUGUUUGUUGUAUUUGACUGCUACUAGACCUGACAUAAUGUAUGCUGUGAGUCUACUCUCGAGGUUUAUGCAUUCUUCAAAUGAAAGUCAUUUUAGAGCUGCAAAAAGGGUUCUAAGAUACAUCAAAAGAACUUUGUCCUAUGGAAUGCAGUUUACCAAGGCUGAGAACUUGAGGCUAGUUGGAUAUUGUGACAGUGACUGGGCUGGUUCUUUGGAUGAUAUGAAGAGCACUACAGGUUAUGCAUUCAACAUAGGCUCUGCUAUGAUAUGCUGGAGCUCAAAGAAGCAAGGAGUAGUGGCUCAGUCGACUGCAGAAGCAGAAUAUGUGGCUGCUGCUGCAGCAGUCAAUCAAGCCAUAUGGCUUAGAAAAAUUUUGAAAGAUAUAAUCAUGAGCAAAAGGAAGCAACUGAGAUAAUGUGUGACAACCAAUCAGCAGUUGCUAUUGCAAAGAAUCCUGUUUUUCAUGGAAGGACCAAGCACUUCAACAUCAAACUUCAUGCAGUUCGGGAAAUGGAACAAGCUCAUGUUGUUAAGCUGAUACAUUGCAGUUCUGAAGAGCAAAUUGCUGAUAUUUUAACAAAAGCACUAAGUGUUUCCAAGUUUCAACACCUGAGAGCUAAUAUGGGAGUUUGCAACAUGCUAACCAAGGAGGAGUGUUGAAGUAAUGGUCAGCAUGCAGCAACCAAGACUGUCAAAGGCACUACAUGCAGAAGCUGCUGGUUCACCUAGUCAGCAAGCUGUUUAUGUUUCAUUUUGUAAUUUUAAGUUAGAGUAAUGUAACUUAGUUGCUUUAUAACUAUGUUAGGUUUAUGUUUGAUGUAAUUUUGAUGUUGACUGAGCUGAUAAAUCAGCUUUGUUUGUUUAUUCAAGCUAAUUAGCACAAGUUACUAUGUGUAUUAGUGGUAGUAGGUGAAGUUUAGGUCAACCUACUGUUUUGUCAAGAUUGUAAACUUGUUUUAUGUAUUGGCUUUGUGCCAUUUUUGGUUUGAUGAAUGAAUUCAAGAAGUUAUCAUCCAUAUGCUCUCCAUUUUUAGUUUUGCUUAAAAAUCCAUUUGAGUUUUCUGCUUUGUUUCUCCUACAAGUCACGAGACUUGCCAUACAAGCAUUCUGCUGAAGCUUGCUGCUGCUGCCUCUUGCUCCAACAGUUGGCCCGAACAUAGUGCAAAAUCAAACUUUAAUGCCAAUUUUGAGGCCCGUUGUUGAAGAAUGUGCGGGUCUACCUCUUACAAUUGUUGUCGUAGCUGGUACAUUGAAAGGAGAAGAGGACCCUCUUAUUUGGAAAAAUGCACUCAGGGAAUUGAAAGAGAGAAUAGGGAAAGUGAAAGAAGCGGAAGAUAAAGUGAUCGAGAGUUUGAAAGUUAGCUUCAAUCACUUAAAAGACGAGAAAAUGAAGCAUUGUUUCUUACAUUGCGCAUUAUAUCCUGAAGAUUUUCAAAUUUGGAAGUAUGGGCUAAUUGAGUGCUGGAUUGAAGAGGGAUUCAUAGAUGAUAUGGGUACAAGACAAGAAAUGAAAGAAAAGGGCCAUGUUAUUUUGAAGAAGUUAGAAGAGAAUUGCUUGUUGGAAAAUACUACCAAUGUAAAUGGUCAACCUUGCGUAAAGAUGCAUGAUGCAGUGAGAGAGAUGGCAUUGUCGAUCACAAGAAUGAAUCCUCGAUGUAUGAUACAAGCAGGUUUGCAAUUAGAAGAGUUACCAGAAAAGGAGCAAUGGAGUCCGGAUAUUGAGAAAGUGUCACUGAUGUAUAACUCCAUAUCAGAAAUUUCCAUAGAUGUGCUGCCCACAAAAUGUCAACUUCUCACAACCUUGUUAUUGCAGGAGAACCCUAUAAAGAAGAUCUCAAAUUCUUUCUUCAUAAACAUGCCUUGUCUUAGUGUUCUCAAUUUGUCCUCUACGAAGAUCAAAAGUUUACCAAAUUCCAUCUCUGAACUAAAGAACCUCACAACAUUGUUGCUUUCUGGCUGUUAUGAAUUAAGAGCUCUGCCAUGUCUUUCGAUGCUUCAAGAAUUGAAGAAGUUGGAUCUAAGUUGGACUAGAAUUGAGGAAGUACCAGAAGGCAUGGAUAUGCUGAUAAAGCUAAGAUAUCUUGAUGUUCAAGUGUUCACUCUGAAAGAGAUACCCGCUGGACUUUUACCAAAACUCGUUCACCUUCAGCACUUGGGUUUUCAUAAGGACAAUAAAAGAACCAGUCUAAAAGCAGAGGAGAUGGAACCAUUGAAGAAGUUGGAGAACUUAACCGGACAUUUCGAAGACGUCAGUGAAUUCAGUAAGUUCAUCUCCUCAAUGCAACAAAGUAAGAAAAAUCUCAUCAAGUACGAUUUACAGGUGGGCUCAUCUUUUAUGCGUGCUACAAGAGAUAAAACAGUAACAAUUGGAGGAUUCCAUGAUUGGGAAGGUGAGUUAAUUAUGCACCCAAUUGAAAUUCAACAGUUGAAUAUUUUAAAGUGCCACAAUUUAAGAAGCUUAGUCAAUGAUAAUUCUUCCUUCAAAAAUGCGAUUGGCUUGAGGGUUUGGUGGUGUGAAGGGAUAGAGUGUGUUGUUUCCCUGUCCUCUUUUGCCUCUUCUUCCGCUCAUCCAUUUCAGAGCCUCGAGAUGUUGGAUCUUAGUGAGCUACCAAAGUUGAGUGCCCUUAUUAUGAAAGAUGAAGGAAUUGGUCCAGCAACAACAUCAACAUUGGCUCCGUCUGCCGCCUUUUCCCAUCUUAAGGAAAUUACGAUAGACAGCUGCUCAAGUAUGAAGACGUUGCUUCCACAUUGGUUGCUUCCAAACCUCCAAAACCUGGAAGUAAUAUCAGUGUCACACUGUGAUAAGGUAGCAGAAAUAUUGGGAGCACCAACAUCAGAAGUUGAAGAAAAAGGGAGUGAUGCAUUAAUCAAAUUCCAUCUUCCUAAAUUGAGAAAGUUGAAAUUGUGGAGAUUACCAAAUUUGACGAGCAUAUGCAGCAAAAGUGGAGUGAUGGUUUGCGAUUCUCUCCAAGUUAUCCAAGUUGCUGGAGACUGUUAUAAACUGAAGAGAAUUCCUCCAUUUGUUCCCCUUGUUGGCAAUGGGCAGCCAUUUGCAUAUGCUCCACCUUCUCUUACCAUCAGGUCAUGGAAAGAAUGGUGGGAAUGGUUGGAGUGGGAUGACCAUCCAAACUUUAAAAAUGUUCUUCAACCCCUUUGGAAGGAUGGAAGGUAUGAACCAUUUAUAGCUUAGUUUAUUUUAUUUAAUUUAUAAAUCUAAUUUCUGAAUUUUAAAACCAUUUCAUGUUAUAUUUUAUUUUUGUUAUAAGAUGAUGCUGCCUCCAUUGCCGCCAAAGAAGUAGAAGAGAGUAGCAGCGCGGAGGAUGGUGCAAAAAAGGCGGGAAUAAAAGGAAUGAUGGAGCAUUGAGGAAUUGAGCAGCCACCAUAAUAAUUGACUCCUUUUCCAUUUUAAUAACAAAUUAUUUUAUUUGUAUUUUUAUAUAAAACAAUUAAAUUCAAAUAUUAUAUAAAAAAUCUUUAUAUGUUCUUAAUUGAAUUGAUGUAAUUCGUUAAUUGAAUUUUAAUAUUAUUUUCAUAAAAUAACAAAUAUUAUUUUGAGAAUAUUUUUAUUUUUUACAUAAAAUUUUAAAAUAUAUAUGUACAUGUUGAAAUUUAAAUCUAAAACAUCACAUUCUUUAAUACCUCAAUUCUAUUAUUUAAAAUUAUAGUACUCUUUACUUAUAUUGAUCUAUUGGCAUAAUCUUAAUUAGAUAUGUUUGUAUUGAUCGUAAAGUGAAAUUAUUUUUCUUAACAUUUAUAAUUGAUUAAUAUUAAAAUAUUUGAAAUUAAAAAUAAAUUACUAAAAUUAAUUUUAAAAAAAAUUAGAUUUAAAAUGGAAUUAAAAUAUAAUAUCAAAUUAUUACUACCUUUAUAGUAUAAUUUAUUGGAUAAACUACACCGUAGGUUAUUCUAAAACAAUAUUAUUUCUAUUUUGGUCACUUUAUUUUUUUAUCAAUUUAGUCACUUUAAUUAAAAUAAUUGCUUGAAUUAGACAUUGACAUGACAUUUUUUUUUACUUUUGACUAAAGCUAGGGAUUUUUCUAUUAGCCCAAAACAUUUGUUUUUGUUUAUUUGCAACCACAUAUCCUUGUCGCCACUCAUCCCCUGCUUUCCAUCUCUAUUGCUCCUCACUGCACCAUAAGAACUACGUUUCAUCACAAUGGUGUACAAAGAGUGUUGGUUGUGUUUUGACUAUCGUACAAAUUAGUGUAGAAAUACAAACGGCAAACUUCCAAGUGGAUACUAUUGGGAAACUAUAGGUGAAGUUGGAGUGAAAGACACAAGCCGUCAUGUAAGGACCUACGGCUAUCGUCGAAUCUUGCAUGGCGACUGGGGAUAUGACAGAUUUUUUAGUUCUGACGAGGAACUUGGAUCCGAUAUCCAGAGUCCAUUUCCACUUAUCGUUAUUGUAUAGCUCAGAUUUUUCGCCAAGAAUCUUCUUGGUUAGAACAUAGUCAAUAGCUAAGACAAGGUGAAAGAGAAGCAACAAGGAAGCUAAAAUGGUAACAAGCUUGGGAAAGGAUUGAGUAGAAACUGACUUCUUCAUGGACUCAGUAUGGGAUCCAGGAAGGGAAAAACUCAAUCUUUAAGAACAAAUGAAAAAAACCAAAGGAAUCCGCUUUCAAAUAAAUUUACCUUUGAGGCUUUGUUAGUGUUUUGGAUUAAUUAUAGAGAGGUUCCUAAUUUUAGUAAAAAGUAAAAAAAUGAAUGUCAUGUCAACAAUCAGUUAGUGGGUUAAUGCGAUAGUGACCAAUUCAAAUAAUUAGUAUAAUAAAAAAAUUUGCUCUUUAACUUUUAAAUAUUAUAUCAGUUUGGCAUAAUUUUAAAAAAAUAAUCUUCAAAAUUACAAAUGAUCUCUAUUUCAUCAUCAAAUUUUACCUACCUUUUCUGCUUCCCCACGGUCACUACUAUGGUUGCCUCCAUAUCCUCCUCCACCCUUCUUCAAACAAAAAAAAAAAAAAAAACUUCUCUUUUUUCUUAUUUGAACCUAAUUUAUCGUUAAAUAGUAGUAGAUAUAUUCUGUUUGUAUGAUUUCUGGGUUGACAUAUUCUUUUCAGCUGAAUGCUAAUAAUAACAAUAAUAUGAUGAAACAGUGGAGUAAUUUCUGAUGUGACGGCCUUCAUUUCGCUCACUAGUUGCAUGUUUAUUGUUCAUGCACUGAUUAAACAAGAUUUGAAAAGGCUAAAAGCAUGAGCAUGCAACACUGAAUUGUCAAAUACUCAAUAGUAUAAGAUUGAAAUGGUGUUAUUUUGCAGGAAGAAUGGGUGAUUGCAGAAUAAUACACAAAACAGGCGAGAAGAAAAAUGGGGUAGCUGCUGCGCAAGGACAAGGUUAUCUCUUGGAACUUUCUUCAAUAUCUUCAACAGCAAAGCAACAACUAAUUGCUUUCGUCCACUGCUUGAAAUCCCAAUUCCAUUGUUAGAAUCUCAAGCUCAAACUUCAGAGCAGGCUGCCCCUAACUCUUUUACAGAAAAUGACCUGAAAAAGCCUAAUAAACCCAGUUGUUUAUCCAACUAAUAAUGGGUUCCAACCCUCCUUUUCAGCCACUUCCACCUAGCACACUUGAUUUAUAAAUUUUGAAAUUUAGUUUUUUAAAAUUAUGAUCAAAUUGAUAUAUUAUAUCAAAGUUGAGAGAUAAAUUUAUUGUUAUAUCAAUUUUUUAACUGCCACAUCACCCUCCGAUUAGAGUUUUAAGGCACUUAACGAAAAUGGAUAAAAAAAACAAUCUUAAUUAGUUGAGUGACCAAAUUAAAAAUAAAUUAAUAGUUGGUGACCAAAAAGAAAAGGUACAAUAAUUAGAUGACCUGUGAUGUAGUUUACCCAUAUCUUUUUAAAAGCGUAUAAAUAUUUAUAAAUGUCAUCAUUCGUAUAGAAAUGUCACAAAUAUUAAAUCAUUAAAUUGCAUGUUUCAAAACAAAAUUAUUAAUUCAUUUUUUAAGAUUAGUAAUUAAUAGAAAUAGGAUCAAAAACAUCCAUACUAAACUUAACUAAACAGACUUACAAUUCGGUCACUCAUGUUUUCAGAAUUGUUUGUUUUCUUCACUCGACUGUUAAGUGACGCUUGUUUUAAUUGAUAUAAUAAUAAUAAUUAUAAUAAUAAUAAUGAUAAUUUUAGUUCUCAAUUUUUAUAUUUUUUAUCAAUUUGACCUUAAUUUUAUACAAAAAUUAUAAAAAAACCUCCAAAUUAUGUAUAAAAUAUAAAUUUUUAUAUAAAAAUUCUAGAAAAAUAAAAUCUUGAAUAUGUUGUUACAUAACUAAAUUGUAUAAGAAAUAAAGAAAAUCAGCAUUUAAUAGAAUCUAAUAAUAAAUUAAAAAUAAAAUAAAAAGUUAGAUCAUUACAUGCUUCAUCAAUGUUUCUCGAAAUCAAAUUAGUAAUAUUAUUAAGUUGAGUUUCAUGUCCUUAAAGAACAUCUAGAAUUGAUAUUGCAGAGGCUUAUGAAAUUGACCUUGAUGUCAUUUUUUUUUUUAGCCAAAAGCUAUUAUGUUUCAAACUCAAUUCAAUUUUUCGUUACAUUUAAAUUAUUUUUUGAAACUCAAAUUGUAAAACGAAAUCAUAUUCAAAAGUUUAUCUUCUCUUGUAAGGUAAAAAUUAUAUCAAGAAAUAGAAAAAGUAAAAAACAGAGAACAAAUAAAUCAGCUUAAUAUUUGUUUUCUAUGUUUGUUUUUAAAGAACGAGUAUUGGAUAUUUCGAUAUACAUAAUAUAGAGAAUUUCUGUAGGGUUUAAAAACAAUUAUCCCUCAUUUUCUCACACUUUAUUUAAUUUUGAAAAUUUUAGCUACUUUUAUUUAAUUUUUAAUUUUAUAAUGUUCUAAAAUUUUAAAAAUAAUUUAUUUUUUUACCAUUUUAUAUAUUAUCAAGAUUAAAAUGAUUGAAAAUAUAAAAGUUAAGAACUAAAAUUGUUAUUAUACUAAUUUAAAAAGUACCACUCAACCAUAUAAGUGACAAAAAUUUUUUUUUUUAAAAGCAACUUAAAUUCAAUGAUAUAACUUAUCGAGAAAUUUAUAUAUACUUAAAUAUUUAUAUAAAAAAUUAAAUAGAUUUAUUCACAUCUUACUAAUGUCCAUAUGUAAGAAAUUGUCCAAAAUUGAAUACUGACAACUUCAAGAACGCAAAUAAUUUAGUAAUGGGGUGCGAAUAACUAUACCUAAUGCAACUCCUUUACUUGUAUAUUUAAUUUCAAGUUGUAACUUAUAACUAUGCAUUCUUAUACCCUGCCGUCCCAACUAUUAUUUUUAUUAAAUAUUAUUCAUUGCCAACUUCAAUGAUUUUGUUUUGAUGUCCAACGUCUAUCACCAUAUUUCAAGCUCAUUUUCUUUCAUUUGCUUAAUCCAUCACAUGCUUUUCUUUGCUUGAUUCAUGACUUUGCAAUGAUUCUUUCUGAUUAUCUGCUACUCUUAGCAGCUAACUUUGUAAGACAGUCAAGGAAGAAGUGAACUUCACUGCUUCAUCUUCAGUUCUAUUCUCUCAACACCUUUCAGCCACUAAGUCAGGUAAUAAGAUCUGAAGCUAUGGUUUCCUCUACUGUUUAUCAACAGUUUUAGAUUUUAAGACAAGAUGAUCAGCAGACAUAAUCUACUCUAGAUUGAAAUUAAUACAGAAAGAGCUACCCAGAAGCAAUAUAAUGUUGAAAUCCCAUACUGUUAACAUUUUCACUCUUAAUAUUCUGUAAUGAACUGUUGCACACUUGAAUCUAGCAUUUUAUAUACAUCGACAGCUUAAUUCUAUCAGUCACCCAUCUAUAGCUCCAUCUAAUAAACGCCAUUGCUUGAAACUUGCAUUCAUGCUUACACUGACAUAACAAAAAGCCAAUACAUUCACAGAUUUUCAUUAUCUGCUACUGUUAUAUAUGAUUGCGUUGCAGGGACAUAGCAAUGGAGUACGUAGAGCCCGUUCUUGGCAUUUCAAAUUGUCUUGGAACUCCUGCUUGUAAAUACUUGCAAUAUCACAGAAAGCUCAACGAUUAUGUGAGAAACUUCAAGAGGAUGAGAGAUGAGUUGAAUUGCAAAAUGGAAGAUAUACAGCUGCAAUUGAAAGCAGAGCUUCUUCGUCCGCUGGGCAAGAUACCGAAGAAGGGAGUUGAAAAUUGGUUGAAAGCUGUGAAAGAGAUGAUUAGGGAAGCACAAGUUGUUGAAAACAAAGUCAGUAACGGGAGAUAUCUCUGUCGUGCUUGCAACGGGAAGCUAGUUGACGAAAAGACUCGAGAGAUGAAGGAAUUUCUUGAUAACGCUCCUAAUGCCUCUGAAGGUCUUGCCAUGGAUGGUCCAAGUGCUGGGUUGCCACUGCCAACAUCAGAACUAGUUGGAGAAGAAGCUGUCAGAAAUGAGAUUUGGGCAUGUUUGAUGCAGGAGGAGGUGAGCAAGAUUGGGGUUUGGGGAUAGGCGGUGUGGGUAAAACCACUAUCGUGAAGCACAUCCACAAUGAUCUUUUGAAACAACAAAGAUUCGAAAGGGUAAUCUGGGUUACCAUAUCAAAGGAGUUCAACGUAAUGAAGGUACAAGAUAAUAUUGCAAGUGCGUUGGAGUCAAAGGAGUAUUUAGACAAAGAAGAGGACAAGCUCAGACGAGCUGCAAUCUUGUCAGAAAUGCUGAAGAACGCAGGAAAGCAUGUUCUAAUCCUAGAUGAUGUGUGGGAUAAAGUCUCUCUAGAGGAAGUUGGGAUUCCUGAGCCGAGUGGCAGCAGUGGCUGCAAGUUGGUGUUGACAGCCCGUUCGGAGCAUGUCUGUAAGUAUAUGGGUUGUAAGGUGAUAAAAGUGAAGCCCCUUUCAGAAGAAGAGGCAUUGAUACUAUUCUUGAAUAAAGUUGGACCUAACAUAGUUCAAAGUCCAACUAUAAUGCCUACUUUGAAGCUUGUUGUCAAGGAAUGUGCGGGUCUACCUCUUACAAUUGUCGUGGUAGCUGGUACCAUGAAAGGAGAAGAUAACCCUCGUAUUUGGAAAAAUGCACUCGGGGAAUUGAAAGAGAGAAUAGGGAAAGUGGAAGGAGUGGAAGCUGAGGUAAUCGAGCGCUUGAAAUUUAGCUUUGAUCACUUAAAAGACGAGAAAGUGAAAUAUUGUUUCUUACAUUGCGCAUUAUAUCCCGAAGAUUUUGGAAUUGAAAAGGAUGAACUAAUUGAGUGCUGGAUUGAGGAGGGAUUUAUAGAUUAUAUGGGUACAAGACAAGAAAUGAAAGACAAGGGCCAUGUUAUUUUGAAGAAGUUAGAAGAUAAUUGCUUGUUGGAAAAUGAUACCUCUCAAUUUGGUUUACAUGUUAUAAAGAUGCAUGAUGCAGUGAGAGACAUGGCAUUGUCGAUCACAAGAAUGAAUCCUCGAUAUAUGAUACAAGCAGGUUUGCUAUUAGAAGAGUUACCAGAAAAGGAGCAAUGGAGUCCGGAUAUUGAGAAAGUGUCACUUAUGUAUAACUCCAUAUCAGAAAUUUCCAUAGAUGUGCUGCCCACAAAAUGUCAACAGCUCACAACCUUGUUAUUGCAGCAUAACCCUAUAAAGAAGAUCUCAAUUUCUUUCUUCACAAACAUGCCUUGUCUUAGUGUUCUUAAUUUGUCCUUUACGAUGAUAAAAAGUUUACCAAAUUCCAUCUAUGAACUAAAGAACCUCACAACAUUGUUGCUUCAUGGCUGUUAUGGAUUAAGAGAUCUGCUGUGUCUUUCGAUGCUUCAAGAAUUGAAGAAGUUGGAUCUUUCUGAGACUGGAAUUGAGGAAGUCCUGAAGGGAUGGAUAUGCUGAUAAAGCUAAGAUAUCUUGAUGUUCGAGUGUUCACUCUGAAAGAGAUACCCGCUGGACUUUUACCAAAACUCGUUCACCUUCAGCACUUGGGUUUUCAUAAGAGCAAUAAAAGAACAUGUCUAAAAGCAGAGGAGAUGGAACCAUUGAAGAAGUUGGAGUGCUUAACUGGACAUUUCGAAGACAUCAGUGAAUUGAAUAAGUUCAUCUCCUCAAUGCAACAAAGUAAGAAAAAUCUUAUCGAGUACUAUUUAGUGGUGGGCCCAUAUAAUAUGGGUCGUGGAAGGGAGAAAACAGUAACAAUUGGAGGAGUCCAGAACUGGGAAGGCGAGUUAAUUAUGCACCCAAUUGAAAUUCAAGAGUUGAAUAUUGUAAGGUGCGACUAUUUGAGAAACUUAGUCGAUGAUAAUUCUUCCUUCAAAAAUGCGAUUUACUUGAGCAUUUUUUAUUGUAAAGGGAUAGAGUGUGUUGUUUCCUUGUCCUCUUUUGCCUCUUCUUCUGCUCAUCCAUUUCAGAGCCUCGAGAAGUUGGAUCUUCUACAUCUUCCAAAGUUGAGUGCCUUUAUUAUGAAAGAUGCAGGAAUUGGUUCAGCAACAACAUCAACAUUGGCUCCGUCUGCCACCUUUUCCCAUCUUAAGGAAAUUAGGAUAGUGAACUGCUCAAGUAUGAAGACGUUGCUUCCACAUUGGUUGCUUCCAAACCUCCAAAACCUGGAAGAAAUAUUAGUGGAUAUUUGUGAUGAGUUAGUAGAAAUAUUGGGAGCAGCAACAUCAGAAGUUGAAGAAAAAGGGAGUGAUGCAUUAAUCAAAUUCCAUCUUCCCAAAUUGAGAAAGUUGUCAUUCAGGGAAUUACUAAAUUUGGAGAGCAUUUGCAGCAAAAGUGGAGUGAUGGUUUGCGAUUCUCUCCAACUUAUCCAAGUUGAUGAAGAGUGUGAUAAACUGAAGAGAAUUCCUCCAUUUGUUCCCCUUGUUGGCAAUAGGCAGCCAUUUGCAUAUGCUCCACCUUCUCUUACUAUCAGUUCAAGCACAGAGUGGUGGGAAUCGUUGGAGUGGGAUGACCAUCCAAACUUUAAAAAUGUUCUUCGCUUCAACCCCCUUGUGGAGGAUAAGAGGUAUGAACCAUUUAUGGUUUAGUUUAUUUUUUGAUUUUGAUAAAUCUAAUUUCUCCAUAUUAAUGAAAUUUGAUUUAUAUUAGUGAUGAUGUUGAAGAGAAAGAUAAAAGGGUUGGUGGGAAAGAAGGAUAGUGCAAAAGAGAGGAGAAAAGGAAUGAUGGAAGGAAGAGGUUAAGAGGCAAAGGUAAAUAAAAGAUCAAACAGCCUCCACUUUUUAAACAAUUUCCCUCUCUUACCAUUCCUUCUAUUCUCUUAUUCUUCUCUAAAUAUUUAUUAUUAAAAUAUUUAUAUUAAUCAAAAUGAUUUAAGGUGAGACAAAACUACGAUCAUAGUUUUAUUUCCAAUAAAAGUUAGGAAAGUAUUGUAAAAAGACAUAAUAUUUUUUUAUUUCCAUGUAAAAUUUCUGGAAACAUUAAGAUUUAAAAAAUAAUAAGUGCUUGUUUUUUUUAAAACUUAGUAUUUAUAAAAAAAAUAUAAUUGGAUUCAUUCAUAUGUAAACGUAACAUAUUUCUAAAAUUAAAUAAUAUUUUAAAUUAUGAGGACUAAAUGAGAAAAUUAAAAAGGUGAAAUCCCUUUUAAAAUAAAUUAAAAACAUUAAGGGGAUUAUGUUGCAAAUAACCCCUCCACAUUUCCCAUAUAUAAAAGAAAAUUUCCUUUUCUUUUAAUUUGAUUUGGUGUGGUGGUUAAGUGGCAUGAAUGUUUGCUUCAGGUCUUGGGUUCAAUUUUUUUUUUAAUUUUUCCUAUUUAUUUUGGUAUUAUGUUCAAUUUGAGCCUUAGGGCCUAUCUCUUAUUUUCAAUGAUGAGUCUACUGAUUCAGUGGUAAGACUUUAGUUUAUCAUCAAUUUAAAUUCUAUAAAAUCUGGUAAGUGGGAUUUGGAUUAACUUAAUUUUUUUUAUUUUUUUAUUUUAAUUUAAUUUUACAAAAUAUCUAUUUUCACUCAUUGUUUCAACCGUCCACACUAUCACCCCACUUUGUAUGCUACUUCCUUUUGUUUCCCUAUCUUCCUUCUUUCUCCUCUUUGAUUAUUCCUGAAUACUGCCGUUUAUUUUGUGAGUUCUGUCACUUGGAUCGUAUUCUAUUUGCAGUGUAAGUUUCAUUUGGUUACUUUUGUUGUCUUUCCAUUAAUAGUCUAGUUUUGUUUCGUUUCUUGAACAAGUUGAGUUUGUGUUGGUAUUUUCUAUUCGUUAUCAUGAUUAGUAUUUUUGUGGUUCUCGAUUAGGCGAAAUGUGUGAGAAUCCUAACCCUCCAGCAAAGUAGACACAAUUUUCAACGUUGUUUCGGAGAACUAAGUAUUUGAAUUCUAUUUUAGGGGUUGAAAUUUUGAUUCAAUGAUGUUAUUAUGGAUAAUUAUUGUUAGUUAAUCCGUAUGGUUUGAUGAACGUUUAUAGGAUUCGUGAGUUCCAAUUGAGCUGUUGAUCAAAUCAGCAAUAGGUGUGUGAAUUUAACUCGAAAACUCAAUGAAAGCUCGAGAAAAUUGCGAAACAAGGGUUGUUUUCGAAACUGUCCAACGCCACAUGGCCAUGUGGUAGGACGUGUGGAGCACACAGUCGUGUGAAUUUACACAGCUUGUGUCCGUAGGCUAUGUGAACGACACGAGCUAGCUUUUUGAGCUGUGUGAGCCACAUGACUAUGUGGGCAUUUUGGUCAAUUUUCAGCCCCAAUUAGGGGGCGGAUUAAAGGAUUCAAAUAUUGGGUCCAUGGGCAUCAUAUAAGCCCAAAAAAAUGUAAGUUUUAGCACGUAUAUAUACAUGGCUAAGCUUUGGAGGUAUGUUAAGUAGGUGGUAUAUAAAUCAUAUGCUAUGUUAUGUUCCUUAUAAAAAUAUGUGUAUGCAUGUCAUACGACUUAUGAUAAAUGUUUUUAUGAUAUUAUAAUUAUGAUUAUGCCUAUGUUUUGGGCUAGGUUAUGAUAUGAUGGAGGAAGUGUUAUAUGAUAGAUUUUAUCGCAACUAUGGCAGCUAGACUAUAAAAUUUCUAUCUAACAGCUCAGUUGCAUAUUUAUGAGUGACAUACCACCACAUAUUGGUAUGAUUGGAUGGAUGGACUCUUGUAGUCCUAAUUGGUGAUAUUGCUUGGACGGAGAUGGUAUGUAGCAAUUGGGGGUAUGAUAUGAUAUGAUAUGGGAUAUGAUAAAAUAAGACAAGAUAUGAAACAUGCUAUAACAUGAUAUAAAAACCGAUAUGAUAUAAGAUAUGCUUCGAUUUGCUAUGAUACAUUCUGAUAUAUAUAUAUAUAUACUACAAUGUGUAGGUCAAAUCACGCACUGGAUGUUAAGCUCACACGUCUGCUUAUUUUGUUUCAGGUGAUCUUCAGACCUAGGAUUAGAAUAUGACUCUAGAGCUCGUAUUUUACUCUUUCGGUUUAAGUAUGCAUUGGACUCUCUUUUGUUUAUAUGGACUUUUUGGACUUUUGGAUAUUUUAAAUUUAUUUGGAAUGCUAAAAAUUAUUUUGCAUUUAUUUUUCAAAUGUUUUAACUUUUACCGAUACUUAAAUCAAGACAACUAAAAAUAAACCAUAGUUAUAAGGUAAAUUUGCUAUAAUGCUUUCUGCUGCAUGUUUUAAGGUCAAUUUGCUAUAAUGCUGUCCGUUGCAAGUUUUAUUGAAAUUGGCUAAGAUGUUUUAUCUCACAAACAAAAUAAGUAAAUUAAAUACAUUUUGGUAAAAUUAACAAAUAUGGAUUUCUUCAAUGUACUCACGGGUUUUCAAAAAUGGUACAUCUUCAACGGGUUAAUCAAACUUGUUUUCUUUUGAGUUAAAUAGUUUUUGCCAAAAUGAAGUAAUAUUGUUUUCACGCACAAUGUAAUCUCCUCAAUCUGACUAUAACAUCUAGGCCAUGUUUGGGAUGUUAGAAUUAGAGUUUUAGAAAAUAAUUACUUUUUCUUUUACAAGUUAAUGUCAUUGUAGGGUUUGAUGGGUUAUCUUCAACUUUAACAGUUAAGCUUCCAAAGUCGAUGAUCGUAUUUAAAUAUGUAAAAAAAUCUUUAUAUUUAAAAGAUAUUCUUAUAAGAAAACAAACAUGUUAUAUAUGAUUGUUGCAUGCAAUUAUAUUAUUUUAUGAUUCGGUUUAUAUAUGAUUGUUGUCAUGACAUUUAAGCAUUUAAUUAAUAUUUUAAAGUUUUCAAAAAUAAUAAAUAUAUUUUUAAUAAUUUUAAUUUUUAAAAAAUAAGUUAUAUAUAUUUUUUAAACCUUAAAAUAUUUUUAAAAAACUAAUGUAUCAUCCAUAACAAAUCAUACAUAAUUAACACAUAUUGGGGCAUGGGAAAGCUUUUAAAAAAUUGAACUCAAAUAGUCCUCUACAUGGUUCAUCAAGGCAUGGCAAGUAAGUGAUCGUUUAUUGAAAGAAAUCCGUUUAUAGCAAUUGGGCCUGGGAAGCAAACAGGAGAAGUCCACUAGCAACAAACAAACCAAAGUAAAUCAAAAACAAAACAAAUUGGAAAAACAAAACAGCAAAAAGGGAAAAUUAAAACAGAAAUCGACAAACACCGUCUUCUCCAUCCAACAAGUCCCCAGGCACUGUGUGACUCCACCAAACCCCAAUGAAAUAAACGGUAAAGAUCUUCCAAAUCCGACAACAACCGGAAAAGAAAGCAGUUGAGAAUUGCCAUCUUGUAUAAGUAUUUCUCAACUCCAUCACUGAAAUAGAAAAAAAAAGGUUAUGGAGGUUGCCCACACCGACGAUCAGAGUCGGCCACUUCCAGAGCUUUCAAAGGCGCAUCUUCCAUCCAGAAUGAAUCCCCUUCUACUCGCAUACCCUCAACAGCCGAUGCAUGCGCUGCUCCACUCCCUUCUCUCGCAAUGAACUGGAAUCGACAGCAUUGGAACUUUCUGGCCAGGUUCUUCGCAUCCCAGGUAAAUGGUCUAGUCUCCGAGUAAUCCUCGCUUAAUUUUUGAAUAUUAUUUACCACCAGUCUCGAAUCACUCUCAAGAAUCACCUUUGAAAAACCCUUAUCCAGGGCGAAAUGGAGCCCAUGCAAGUAAGUGAUAGUUGAAGCAACUUGUUUCAUGAUUGCCUGUAUUUCUCUCAUAAUUUUGUUGUCACUCUGUACCCGUGGCACACUGCAAAAUCUCCUACAUUUCAAAUAAACUGAUGUCUAGUAAAACAUUAAAGCAGAAGAGGAUGAACUAUAUAUUACCCUCAGUAUUUGUUUCAAUGCUAAAAUUCCACCUCUCCUCUCCAACACCUCAUUGGUAGCCUUACUCAUCAUAACUAACACCACCCAUUCUUUUUCCAAUACAUUUCCAGAAUGUGAGGAAUGCCCUACACUUUUGUUUCUACAUUAUUAGGAAAAAUUGUAAUAUAUACCUGAACUUGAGUUGUCAUAUUCUAAUAUUUCUUUGCUCAAUAUUUACUUGAUUGUAUACAUUAGAUUUGCACCCGAAGCAAUAGUUUUAGAACACUUACAGUAAUAGUUUUAGUCUUUCAACUUCAUCAACUAAUCUUUCAAAGUUAUGUGUAUCGAUUGCGGUCGUAAACCAACUAAAAAUCUGAUUAAGGUAAAUGUACUUAUCAAUUAUUAGUAUAGUUACGAUGAGCAAAGAUAUCGUUCCCACGAGAGCUAAAAGUGUUAGUAAUUAUUGUCUUUCUAUUAUUUAACCAAGAAAUUGGAGUGAUUGAUUAAAAAUAAAAUUAACUAAAUUAAUUAACUAAAGAACACGACAAAGAACAAAUCAUAAAAAUAAACGAUUAAAAACCAAAAAGCGAGACAAUAUCCAGGAAAGAAUCUACCUAGACUUCAUAUGUCAUUAUCAAUCUAAAUCACGCAAUUUCUUCACUUACUACCUUGAUCUGUAGAAAUCCCUAAAUUAUGCUAAUAUCUCUCUUCAAGACUAAGAGCAACUGACUUUAGAUUGAUUAAUUAAAAUUUCUUUCUAAUUAAAAACCCUAUUAUCGCAUUAACUCGAUUUAUGGAUCAUUCUAUUAGAUUUGACUCUAAUCCGGUAGAUUUAUAUCGUCCUAUUUUUAGAAUUGCAUGCAACUCCACUAAAUUACGCUAGAUCUACUCUUAAACAGGUCUAUUCCUCCUUUAAUUUAAGCACAUAAAACAUGAAUCAAUAGUCUAAAAAUAUUAAACUAUGAAUUAAGUACACAUAAUUGAGAGCAAGAUUUAAGUAUUUAUUGCAUAAAAAUAGAAAUCAAAUAAUACAAUCCAUCCUAAAAACAGUAUAAUCACAAGAAAUAAAAAAACUCAUAAUAAACUUCAAAGAAAUCAAAAGGAGAACUUCAAUCUUGAUGGAAAUCUACUUCAAAGUCGGCUUUAAUAGUAUUUUUCGAGUUAUUUUCUUCAAUAUUAUAUGACAACUCACUCCCCUCCUCUUAUCUUUGUCAUAUAUAUCUUAGAAAACCUAAACAUUAUGAUUUUCUGCGUGUUUAGAGUGCAAUUUGCGAUUUGCACAUGGACUGGCAUAUGGUCGUGUGACAGCCCGUGUGGCUUACUCAGCCGUGUGUCCAGACCGUGUGCAAUGGCCCAACCCAUGUGGCUCCUGAAACUUGCUCCAAUUUUUCGAUUUUCGCUUAUUUUUCGCUCAUUUUGCUCUCAAAUGCUCUCCUAAGAAUAGAAAUAUGAAUUUAAAGUAUUAGGAGCAUAAAAUUCACCAUUAACACAUUUUCUUUGUACAUUUAGCAUAUAUUCAAACAUCGAGGCUCUGCUUUGCAGUUUAGGUUCAAAAAUAUGAACCCAUGUUUUCAAAGGUCUAAUUUUUCCAUGAACUGCCAAAAAUGAAAAAAAAAAAACAAAUGUUUAAAAAAAAAUGAAAGAAAAGAAAAUGAAAAUAUAGUUUAAUGAGACUUACAUAAAUGUUGGGAUUGAGAAAAUGAUUGUCUAAAGGGAAGCAGAAAUUUGGCCAUCCAAGCCAUCUUAUUCAGUUCAUCGAUGCAAGUUUCUCUGCUUAGCCACCGCUGCUCUCAAAAUGACGACGGACUAAUUAGUUUAACAACAAUACCAGUACGACGUCGUAAGGACGUAUCCUACGUGGCAGUCGUGUCAUCUAGCUAAGUCAAACUACGAAGCUACAGUUGGACUUUGAUUUCAGUUGGGUUUGGUUUCUUAGGUGGAGUUCUAUUUAAACUUGGGUUUUGUUUUCGGUUAAAUUACCCUAUUAGUUACUAAAUUAUAAGUUGCUUUUGUUUUGUUCACUUAACUAAAAAAAAGUUAAAAUUUUGUUACUGAAAUAUUCGAAUAUUUUCAUUUAAGCCACUAAAACAAGAUCUUUUUAAAUAAGAAAUAAAUAUUUUUUAUAGAGAAAUUUUAUAUAUAAAAAAUAAAAUACUUUAAUUUAAAAGGACAUUUUGUUUAAUCCUUUAAUAGCUUUUGGAGUGAUGAAAAGUCUAAUUUCACUUUGCACCUAAAAUGAUUUUUUUGGUAAUUUUCUUACCGAGUUGGGACUCAAUUGAUGGUUGACGCCAACUCAGUAAAAGGCUUUAACAUGGUAUAGAUAAAAAAAAGUUUUUAAUUAAAAUUUUUAAAAGAAUUUAGGGUAAACUAUACCAGUCAUUCAACUAUAGGCAAGUUUUCGUUUUAAUCACUUAACUAAAAAUAUUACUAUUUUGAUCACUAAUGCUUUCAAAAUUGUUUUUCUUUUCUGUCACCCAAUUGUUAAGUCAUACUUGUUUUAGUUGGUAUAAUAAUAGUUUUAGUUCUCAAUUUUUAUAUUUUCUGUUAAUUUGAUUCUGAUUUUGUAUAAAAUUAUAAAAAAAACUCACAAUUAUUUAUAAAAUAGAAAAAUGCAUAUAAAAAUUCUAGAAAAAUAAAAUCUUGAAUAUGUUGUUUCAUAACUAAAUCGUAUGAGAAAGAAAAAAAAUCAUCAUUCAAUAACAUCUGAUAACAAAUUAAAAUCAAAUCAAAACAAAAAAAAAAGGUAGAUUAUUAUAUGUUUCCUAAAUAUUUCUCGAAACCAAAUUAGUAGUAUUAUCAAGUUGAGUUUCAUGCCCUUGAAGAACAUCUAAAACUAAUAUUACAAAUACUUAUGAACUUGACCUUGAUGCCAUAUUUUUAGUUAAAAGAAUACAAAAUAUACCAUGAUUUUUCUUUUUCAAACUGAUCAAUUCAAAAUUUCAUUACAUUUUAAUUUUUUUUUCAAAACCCAAAUUGCAAAAUGAAAAUAUAUUCAGAAUUUUAUCUUUUCUUAUAAUGUAAAAAGCUAUGUCAAGUAAUUGAUGAGGUAAAAAAGCAUAGAACAAAUAAAUUUGCUUCAUAGUUUUUUCUAUGUUCGUUUUUUAAAGAAUGAGUAUUAAAUAUUUCAAUAUAGAUAAUAUAGAGAAAUUUUGUAGGGUUUAAAAAUAAUUAUCCCUAAUUUUCUCACUUUAUUUAUUUUUCAAAUUUUUAUUUUACUUUUUUUACUUUUAUAAUUUUCUAAAAUUUUAAAAAUAAUUUCAACUUUUAUCAUUUUAUAUAUUAUCAAAAUCAAAUUCACUGAAAGUAUAAAAAUUAAGGACUAAAAUUGUUAUUAAAUCAAUUAAAAAGUUCUACUUAACAGUUGAGUGACAAAAAAAUAAUAAUUUCAAAAACAUUAGCGGUGAAAUUGUAACUUUUUUUAAUUGAGUGACUGAAACAAAAAUUAGCAAUAGUUUAGUGACUAAUAGUGUAACUUUUUUUUUGGUAUAAUAAUAAUUUGAAUUUUGGCUAUUCCUAAAAAGGGUGAACAUCUGAUCAUAUUUAUUCACAUAUUACAAACAUCCAUAUGUAAGCAAUUCUCCCGAAUUAAAAUCAAAUUUUAAUAUCAACAACUUCAACAACUCAUAAAUAGGAAGAUAAUGUGUUUCAGUACACUUAAAACCACAUCUUUCUAUAUUGACAACAAUUACUAUGACAAUGAAGCUAAGACUCAAUUCACAAUAACUAUAUAUUUUUGUUAUACCUAAUUAAAGUCAUUUAUAUCAGUAUAUUAGACAUUCUUAUACCCUAGUUUCCCAUACUUUCCCAUUAUUAUCGUGAUGAUGAUGAUGAUGAUGAUGAUGUUACAAUUGAGCACCAAGGUCACUGUAAUACUUGUUAGUAUUGUCCAGAAUAAAUGGAAAGGACAUUUCCAUGGAAAUUAGACCUCAUAUCUAUCUUUCAAAUUUUGAGAGCAGAUUAAAGGUUUUAUUAUCAAGUAGAAAUGUCAGUAUGAAAAACCCCAAAUGCCAACUAAUAAUGGCAGACACCAAAGCUAAAAGCUAAAAGCUAAAAGCUUGGAACCCACCACUAAAGUGUAUGCCUCAUUAUUUUGCCUGUUUUUAUCUUCACUUUCUUCCUUUUUUGGCUUUUGUACCCACAACGUUCUUUCUUCUUCACUGUUUUUAUCAAGCAUCCAGUUAGGGUAAUUUCUUUCGCUCCCAAAUAUUUUUUUAAGUAUAAAAAAUUUAAAUUUAAAAAAUUACGAGCAUCAAAUUCACUAAUUUUCAUAACUGAUCAUCUAAAAACAUAUUAAGAAUAAGAUUAAAAUAUACUAUUUUUGUAACUUAUCGUACCCCUAAACCACAACUAAAAAGUUUAAUCUGAUAGUGGACCCUAGAGCUUAAAGGAGGCUAAAGAUGGUGGAAUCCAAGGUAGUGUGAAACAACAUGGUCUUGACCAUAACACUAAAAUUGCUUUAGCUUAAAUGAAAAUCAAAAUAUUUGUAUGUAUGAUAUCUCCAGUUUAAAUCUUAUUAUCGAUAAAUUUUUAUUGAUUUAUAAAAAGAUGAAAAAUAGCUUUGUAAUUAUAUAUCUUACUUUACAAAUAAAAUGUUUUUUGUUAGCAAUUUUCUUACUGCGUUUGGACUAACUGGUGGUUGACACUAUGUCAGUAAAAUGCCUAAUACAUAAUAUAGAUUAAAAAAAAGUUUUAGACUAAAAAUUUUAAAACAAUUUAAGGUAAAUUACACCAUUAGUCAUUCAACCAUGAGUAAGUUUUCGUUUUGAUCAUUUAACUAAAAAAAAAGUUACAAUUUAGUCACUAAUAUUUUUGAUAUUGUUUUUUUAUCACCUGAUUGUUAAGUGGCACUUGUUUUAAUUGGUAUAAUAAUAAUUUUACUCCUCUUUUUUAUAUUUUCUAUCAAUUUGACUAUGAUUUUGUAAAAAAUUAUAAAAAAUCAAAAUUUUAAAAAUAGAAAAAUGUUUAUAAAAAUUCUAGAAAAAUAAAAUCUUGAAUAUGUUGUUUCAUAACUAAAUUGUAUGAGAAAUAAAGCAAAUUACCAUUCAAUAAAAUCCAAUAACAAAUUAAAAACAAAACAACACUAAAAAAAGCUUCCUCUCAAUGUUUCUCGAAACCAAAUUAGUAAUAUUAUCAAGUUGAGUUUCAUGCCCUUGAAGAACAUCUAGAACUCGUAUUACCAAGGCUUAUGAAUGACCCUAAUGCCAUUUUUUUAGUCAAAAGAAUACAAAAUAUACAACAAAAUUUCCUUUUUCAAACUUAAUUCAAAUUUUCAAUUACAUUUAAAUUAUUUUUCAAAACUCAAAUUAUAAAAAUAAAUUAUAUUUAAAAAAAAUUUAUAACGUAAAAGCUAUGUCAAGAAACAGAGAACAAAUAAUUUUGCUUAAUGUUUUUUCUAUGUUUUUUACUAAAGAAUGGGUAUUGGAUAUUUCGAUACAGAUAAUAUAGAGAAAUUUUGUACGGCUUAAAAACAAUUAUCUCUCAUUUUCUCUCACUUUAUUUAUUUUUAAAAUUUUUAUCUACUUUUAUUUUUGAAAUUUUAAAAAUAAGUCAUUUACCAUGAUAACUACAAAAGUGAAGUUCAUAUAAGACAAAUGAAAGCACGAUUCAUCAAUAUACCAAGUAAAAAAAAGUUAAGUCAAGACUUAGAUUCAGUUCAAUGAUACCAUCCACAGUAUGACACUUAAAGGUAUCCAUCCACAAUAAAGGCACCCUUCCACCCAGGGGUGAAACUAGAAAACUUUUUUAGGGGAUGAAAUUAAAUUGUAAUUUAAAAAAAAUAUAUAAUUUUAUCAUUUUAGUAGCCUAUAUCUUUAUAAUUUUUAAAAUAUUAAAUAAAAUUUUUAUAUUUUUAAGGAGAGCAAAGUGCAAUUUUACCUUUACUUAUUUAAAAAUUUUAAGGGGCUAAGUAAAAAAUUUUCCAUUUUAAGGGGGGUCGGGGCCCCUGCCACCACCCAGGUUCGCCCUUGCUUUCACCAGGGGUUCAUUUUCAUUCCACUAAAUGUUCAUUGAUCGAAUGGUGGCUCGCCUUAUUACAUUAGUGUAACGCCCCAAAAUUUUAAUUUUGGGUAUUGUAAAUGUGUGACACAAAAUAUCUAUUUGCUUUAGUGGCUAUGUGUUUUGGGUGUGUUUGGGAGGUCCCAAGUUCAAGCCAGGACUUGGGCAAAUUUUGGUAUUUUUAUGAAUAAGUCUUAUCUUUGGUCAGUAGGCUUUUAAGUAAAAGUUGGCAAAUAAUUAACAAAAUGGGCUGUUAGUCUAGUGGAUAAGUGGAGUGAUGGUGUAAAGGAGGUCUUGUGUUUGAAUCUUGACAUGGGUAUUAUUUUUGCUCGUGAGUCCAGGAGAGUUUGAGAUGGACUAAAAAUCUGAGUAGUGGAUUUAGUGGGGAGUUUGAUGGAGAGAAAUAAAGGAUUGGGGUGGUUAUCAAAUAUUCUGUUCAUCUUAUUUUCUUUCCUUUUUUUUACUUUCCCCAAAAUCCCUCCACCCUUUUGUCGUUUUUCUCUUCAUUGCUGCUGAGUUUUUGCUCUCUUUCACCCUUUAUCUUCUUGAUAUUUCUUUUCCCACUCUACCUUGUGUCACUCCACGUUUUUCUGCGAUCGUUCGGUAAGUUUUAAAUAAGUGAUUUGUCUUCGUUUGUUAACUUUCUUCUAAAGUGUUUUGUUUAUGCCAAUUAAAGGAGGAUUCAAGGGCUCGUAAUCACCAAUCGGAGUCUUAGUUUGAGUGGGAAUUACUGUUCAUCGGUUGAAGGUAAGGUUUAGUCGCUUAUGGGUUAAAACCUCGAUACGAGUUCGAUUUGGGAUCACGUUAUGUGAGAUUAAAUUAGUGUUAUUUGUUCAAUUAUAGGCUUUGGAGUGCUCGGGGACUGUUUUAGCAUAAAAAAUUAGGUGUGUACUUGAAACACGGAAAAUGGGAUUCGGUGAAAAGCCAAAAUUGCUUGCUGUUUGAACAGCUGCAGUAGGCUAACUUUGAGAAAUCACCAUAAAUUGUAGAAAUCGAAUUAGAGGAUGAAAAAAGUGGAAUUAAAUCUUAUUGAGUCUAGUUUCUCAUAGAAGAAAUGGUGUAUGUAAUGGAAUUGUAAAUCGUGAGAUAUAAUAAGUCUUGUGAGACAAGGUCAGAAUGAAUUAGGGUUUCCCUGUUCUAACUUUGAAAAAUCAUAAAAAAUUGGAAAAAAAUAAUUAGGGGUUAAAAUUUACAUGUUUAAAUUACUAAUGAGUCUAUUUUCAAUAGAAACAAAAGUAAUAUUAUCCAAAUUUUGUACUAAGAGAUAAUUAAUUUUUAGCAAAGAAAGGUUGAAGCUGUCAAACAGCAAAACAGGGGUAAGAUUGAAGAUUUUACUGUACUUAUUGGCUGAACCAAAAAUUUUGAAAAUUUUAUGGUAAAAAGGUAUUUGAGUCUAGUUUCAAAGACAUCAAGUGGACCUUAAUUUGGAAUUCUGUAGCUCAAGAUAUAAAUAAUUUAGUAACAGUGACUCAAGUAGACAGCUUUGAAGGAACAUAUAAGUAAAUAGUGAAAACAUAUAUGAAUAUUUAGCUAGCACGUGUUACAUUAAAAAUGGAUCACGCGGCCAUGGCCAAUUUGGGCCGAAUGGGCCACACGAGCGUUUGGGCCCACACGGGUUGGCCACAUAGGCUUGUGAGCCCAAUUUUCUGAAAAUUUCUGUAAGGUUGCACGGGUCGCCCAAGUCGACUGUGGACCUAUUGUAGGGUCGGUAUGCUUUACUUAGACCCCUUUCUGUCUAAUUUCUAUAUCGAGCAUGACUUAUGAUAUCUGAAUGUAUGUACUAUUAAUUGCAUAAUGGCAUGACAUAUUUUACAUGAUUGCAUUGCAUCAGGGUGGGUUGAUGAUAUUUAGAGGAAGUGUCUGAAAGGUUAUUAAGCCUGUUAUCUGACAGCUCAGCUACAAUCUUCUGAUUAUGUGCCGCAUUUCGGUACAGCAUGGUGUGUAGGGAUGGGUGGGUUGAUUUAAUCCCCACAUGGUGUGUAGGGUUGGACGGAGAUGGUGUGUAGAGGCUGGUGGGUAAGAUUAUAAUUUACUGUAUCUGCAUUCUGUAUUUGAUAUGGGCCAAGGCCCUAAUGUAUUUCUGAGACUGUAUCUGAACGGACUAAGGCCGAAACUGAUUCUGUGAUGGGCCCAGGCCCCAGACUGUAUUUAACUGAAUGUUGUUGAAUAUCUGUAUGCAUGUUUUCUGUGUGGAUUACAUACUGAGUUUGCGAAAACUCACCCUUUUUCUAUUUAAUCUCUACAGGUAAUCCCCAAACUUGACGGGUCGCUACAACAGAGGACUCAAAGGUGGCCACACAUAAAUUUUAAACUGUUUUCCGUCAAUGUCUAGAGUUUAUUACUUAUUUUGGGUUUUUGAUGUAACUUUUGGACUAUGGACUGGUUGGCUUUAAAUUUGGGACUUUAUACUAUUUUUUUGGAUUUUUUUUAAACUGCAACUCAACAAAACACGGUUUUUCUAAAAAUUAAGGUUUUCGUAAAUAGAAAUGAUUUCCCUAAAUUAAUUGGUUACACAAGCUUCCGCUAAGAGACAAGUUUUAAAGCAAAUCAACUAAUACUUAUUUUUUCUAAAUUAAAUAAAAGCUAACUAACUAUAACGAUUUUAACUCGACAAUCUUGUCUUCAAAUCCCAUUCCAUGUGACCUCAUUAGAUCCGGCCAUAACGUCUAGGCCGGGUUUGGGGUGUUACAUUUAGCAUAAUCCUGAAUAGUUUCUAUUGCCUUUAAUGUGAACUUAAUUUCAAACGAUUGAUUUACCUUCAAGGUUAACCUAAUUUUAAAUACUCAAACGAUUGCAAUGCUUACAAUGCCAGCAAAAUUCUAAAUAUUUAUGAAUUACAACAAUUUUUGUAAUAAAAAAAUACAAGCAAAUUUUCCUAAAUCUAAUUUACCUGGUUUAAAACUCAAAGUUCCAGAUUUGAACAUGUAAGAUCUAAUAUUACAUCAGACCUUCGAAAAACAAAGACUGGUUUAAAUUAAAAAAAAAACUCUAGAUAAUGAUUUUUUUAAUUAAGAUGAGAGGAAGGAAUUAUCGGACAACAUAACAACACAAGUCAUUAACUUACUAGAACACUAUUAGUUAAUUAACAAUUUAGCUAUAGCUAGUUGGCUAUUAGGAUUUGUUAAAUUAGUGUCAUUAUACAUCUUUUAAAUUAAUGUUAUCUUACAUCUAUUAAAUAUUUAACUUUUUCCACUUUCCUCUUACUCUGAUUUUAACAUUUCAUUACCACUCUCCAAUAUUUAUACCUCUUCUUGCACUGGCAGCUGCAGGUUUUAAAGAUGCCAUAAAUAAGGAUUUCAUAGCUCAAGAACUUGACAAUGACAGGGAAGAUGACUAAGAAGAAGAAGGGGUUGCUAUGGGAAGAUAGGGUUCACUGAUGGGUUGUCACAGUCUUUUUCUCAAGUAAAGAAAUCCAAGCUCAGUUUAUCGGAUGCAUUUAACCGUAAUCAAAAGGGAGUCAUUGCAAACAUAAUCAGCUUAUGGUACCAAUCUUAAGAACCAAGACAUCGAGUUACUAUACUAUGAUGAAGGAUUUCAUAACAACGUCAGAGGGAAUCUAAGGGAUAACAUCUGAAGGAAAUUCAUAUUGUUAAACACAAAAUUUGAAAUUCAUGGCAGAUUAGGUAUCUGAUCAACUAAACAGCUAAAGAAAUUAAAAGCUUGGUAGAUUAUUAUGUUCCAAUGCUACAAAUUCAACUUUGGUUUCCUUACUUCAUUAGACAGUUUCAUUAUAGUUUGCCUAUGUGUAGAAAGCUUAGGAUACGACACAAAAUAUGCAUAACAUUCUAUCCAACAUCAGAAAGAUACAAAAAAAAAGUUCGUUAUCAAAUGAAACCAGGUGAAGUUGCCACACUUACAGAUCACUAAAAUUUUACAACAAUGAUGGAAAUGUCAUCCUUGUUGUUCCUCUCAACAGCUUCCUUAGUUAUGUGCUUUGUAGUAGAUCGAGCAUCCUUAAUGCCUUUGAUAGCAUCGACAGCUUCUUGGUAACGGACCAUUAAAUCUCAGGUUCAACAUGUAGGUUCAAUAAAAGAAAAAUGUGAUUAGAUAGGGCUUACCUUCCAUAAACCAUCACUAGCCAAUAUUAUAAGGACAGUAUCAUCGUCGGUUGUUUUAAUGCUCACAUCUGGCUCUGAAGUAAGAUGUUUCUUUAAACUCUUGUCAUUAAAUGCUCUCGCCACCCCAACUGACCAUCAACACGCACAACAUCCCCUGAAACAAAAACAAUAUCAGGAAAAGAUGGUGUAACCUUAAGUGUCAUCCUUAAAAGAUCAGGCACCCAUUACCUGGAAUCCAAUUUUUUUUACCCAUAUCAUGGUUUCAAACAGGUCAAUAGAAAAUUUUGUAAAACCUUAAAAAUAAUAACCUGUACCACACUAAGGUAUCUCUUGUUCUUAGUGCAAACCAAUUUUAGUUGAAAGAUUUUUAUUCAUAGGCAUGAUUAUACCUCGUAUUUAAACUAAGUUUAGGAAAAAAUAAAAUUGAAAGUGUAAAAAUAGAAUGUCGAUAAUGACAAUAUAUCGCAAAGAAAAGAAAAAGGAAAAAUAAAGAAUACACAGAUUUUUACGUGGAAACCCUUUCGAAAAAAACCACGGGCAGAGGAAAAGAAAAUUCACUAUGUCGAAUUCAAAUGAUUACAAGAGGAGUAGACUAGGUCUAUUUAUAGGCCUAUAAAAUCACAUUCUAAUAGAAGUGUAGUAAGAUUGAAACACCUUAUUCUAAUCAAUAUCAAAUAGAUGUAGUUUAAUAAGGUUUAAAAAACCUUAUUCUAAAACAAAAUAAAAGAAGUGUAGUUCUAUAUAGAUUUUACUUUUAUUUUAUUUUAUCACUGUAUUUUAUUUAUAAAAGGAUUCGGGUCACUCAAUUUUAAGAAUCUCCACCUUGACACGAAUUCUCAAUGAACAAGUUCUUCAUUACGAACUCUCAACGAACAAGUUCUCCACCUCUUCCAUAAAACCCCUUAAGGGUUUAACUUCAAUAAUGAACACAAACCAAGUCUAAGUAAUGCUCAAACUUGGUUAUAGGAAGUGACUUAGUCAUCAUAUCUGUAGGAUUUUCAUGAGUACUAAUUUUGCUCACAACAAUAUCACCACGAGCAAUAAUAUCACGAAUAAAAUGAUACCGAACAUCAAUGUGUUUUGUUCUCUCAUGAAACAUUUGAUCUUUUGUAAGAAAGAUGGCACUCUGACUAUCACAAAAUAUUGUAUUGAUUUGAAAGCCUUCAUUGAGUUCACUAAAUAGUCCCUUCAAUCAAAUGGCUUUUUUACAAGCCUCAGUAAUCGCCAUGUACUCAGCUUCAGUGGUAGAUAAAGCAACUGUAGUUUGCAAAGUGGCUUUCCAACUGAUUGCACAACUUCUCAUUGUAAAGACAUAACCUGUGAGAGAACUUCUUCUAUCAAGGUCUCUAGUAAAAUCAGCAUCAAAAUAUCCAAUGACUCAAUCUCUAGUUCUUCCAAACUGUAAGCAAACAUCAAUAGUACCUCGUAAGUAUCUUAAAAUCCACUGAACUACUUUCCAAUGUUCUUUACUGGGAUUCACCAUGUAUCUACUAACUGCACUAACUGUAUAUGAUAAAUCUAAACGUGAACAAACCAUAGCAUACAUGAGAGAUCCCACUGCACUAGAGUAUGAAACACGUGAUAUGUACUCAAUCUCAUCAUUUGAUUGUGGAGAUAAAGCCGAUGAAAGUCUGAAAUGGGCUGCUAAAGGAAUACUAAUAGGCUUAGCACUCUGCAUAUUGAACUUGCAAAGAACUUUCUCAAUGUACCAGUUCUGACUUAGGUACAAUUUACUUGCUUUUCAAUCUUUGAGAAUCUCCAUACCAAGUAUAUUCUUUGUUGGUCUCAAAUCUUUCACCUCAAAUUCUUUACUUAGUUGGGCUUUGACAUUUCUUAUCUCUCAUUUAUCUUUUACUGUUAUCAACAUGUCAUCAACAUAAAGGAGCAGAUACACAAAAGAACCACCACUGUUUUUCUUAAAAUAAACACAAUUGUCAAAGCUACUUCUUUUGAAAUCAUGAGAAGUCAUAAAGGAAUCAAACCUCUUGUACCACUGUCUUGGUAACUAUUUCAAGCUGUAAAGGGACUUUUUCAGCAAGCAAACAUAGUCCUCUUUUCUGAAACUGUAAAACCCUCUGGUUGUUGCAUGUAAAUAUCUUCUUCAAGUUCUCCAUGCAAAAAGGCAGUUCUUACAUCUAACUGUUCAAGCUCCAAAUCAUGCAUGGCCACAAUACCAAGCAAAGCUCGAAUCAAACUAUGCUUCACAACUGGGGAGAACACAUCUGUGAAGUCUAUUCUUGGAAUUUGACUGUAACGUUUGUAACAAGCCUUGGUUUAUAUCUGAGUUCUUCAACUCCUAGACUCCCUUCUUUCUUUUUAAACACCCAUUUACAACGAACAAUCUUUUUACCUUUAGGAAGUUUCACAAGAUCUCAUGUUUUGUUUUUAUUGAGUGAUUCCAUCUCCUCUUGCAUAGAAAACAUCCACUUUUCUGAGUCUUCACAGCUAGCUGCCUUAGAAUAAUUAGAUGGCUCUUGGUUUGCAUCUAUAUCUUCAGCCACAUUUAAAGCAUAAGCAACUAGAUCAGCCUCGACAUACUUCUUUGGAGGUUUAAUUUCUCUUCUAGUUUUGUUUUUGGCGAUAGAGUAUUGUGGUGAAGAAGCAAUUCUAUUCUGAAUUUUUGCACUGGCUUGAGGAGUCGACUCUUUUGUUGAUUCUAGAUUAAUCUGAUGCUCUACCUGCUUUUGAUUUCCUUUAUUAGAAGAGUUUUUAAGAGAUAAGUUAGGUAGCAUAGCAGUUUCAUCAAAAAUAACAUCUCUGCUAAUCACAACUUUUCUAUUUUCAGGAACACCAGCUUUAUAACCAAGAAAAACACAUUUAAUGGAUCUCGGUUUCAAUUUGACUCUGAUUUUGUAUAAAAUUAUUAAAAAAAACUAAAAAUUUUAAAAAUAGAAAAAUGUUUAUCAAAAUUCUACAAAAAUAAAAUCUUGAAUAUGUUGUUGAAUAACGAAAUUGUAUGAGAAAUAAAGCAAAUUACCAUUGAAUAAAAUCCGAUAACAAAUUAAAAACAGAACAAAACCAAAAAAAACUUCCUCAAUGUUUCUCGAAACCAAAUUAGUAAUAUUAUGAAAUUGAGUUUCGUGCCCUUGAUGAACAUCUAGAACUGAUAUUACCAAGGCUUAUGAAAUUGACCCUAAUGCCAUUUUUUUAGUCAAAAGAAUACAAGAAAUAUAACAAAAUUUCCUUUUUCAAACUUAAUUCAAUUUUUCAUUACAUUUAAAUUAUUUUUCAAAACUCAAAUUAUAAAAAUAAAUUAUAUUUAGAAAAAAUAUUUAUAGCGUAAAAGCUAUGUCAAGAAACAGAGAACAAAUAAUUUUGCUUAAUGUUUUUUCUACGUUUUUUUACUAAAGAAUGUGUAUUGGAUAUUUCGAUACAGAUAAUAUAGAGACAUUUGUAAUGCUUAAAAACAAUUUUCUCUCAUUUUCUCUCACUUUAUUUAUUUUUAAAAUUUUUAUCUAUUUUUAUUUAACUUUUUAUUUUAUAAUGUUCUAAAAUUUUAAAAAUAAUUUCAAUUUUUACCAUUUUAUAUAUUAUCAAGAUCAAAUUGACUGAAGUAUAAAAUUUGAGGAUUAAAAUUGUUAUUAUGUCAACUUAAAAAAGUGUCACUUAACAUUUGAGUGACAAAAAAAAACAAUUUCAAAAACAUUAGUGAUGAAAUUGUAACUUUUUUAAUUGAGUGACCAAAACAAAAAUACCCAUAGUUUAGAGUGGGGGUGAGCAAAAUUCGAUUCGACUCGAAAAAAUCAAAAAAAAAUUUGAAUUUCGAGUUAAACGAAUCGAGUUAUUCGAAUCAACUUGAAUUUUUUUUCAAAUUUCGAGUUAGCAUCGAGUUGCGGUUUCGAAUUCGAAAUACUCGAAUAACUCGAAUAAUUCGAAUAUCAAAACUCUAAUAUUUUAAUUUUUACCAAAUCCCAAAUCUUUUUUACUUUUCCCCCAAAACUUUUACUCCUUCCCACUUUCCCCCCAAAACUCUUCCAUUUACUUUUUCUCAAAAUUUUUCUCCCAAAAACCCUCAAAACCUUUUAUUUUCCCCCAAAAGUUUUACUCCCUCCCACUUUUCCCCUAAAACUUUUAUUCCCUUCCCAUCACACCUCCCACCUCUCAUCUACCCCACACCGUCCCCCCUCCAAUUUUUUUUAAUAUUUUCCCUCCAAAAUUUUAGUCCCCCCUAUUUACUUUCCCUCAAACUUUUAUUCCCCAAAACUUUUUAUUUUCCCCCUAAAUUUUUACUUCUCACCCUUUACUCUCAAAUAAAAAAUCAAAAUUAUCCAAAAAAAAAUCACUAAACAUAAAUAGUAAUAAUUUUAUUUAUAUCUACUAUUUAUAUUAUUAAAUUAAAUUUCACAUUUUAUAUUAUUUGUAUUAUUGAAUUGUUUUGUCAUAUUGAAUAUUUAUAUUAAAAUUGAAUUAUUAAUUAUGCCAUAAAAUAUUCGUGUUAAAAUUUUAUAUUGGUAUCAAUUUCACAUUUUAUUUUUAAAAUAACUUUUAUUAAAAAUAAUAUUUUUACAUUUAAUAUAUUUUUUAAUUCCAAAAUAUAUAGUGACAAGAAUCUGAAGAUAAUUGAAACAACAAAGCAAGCAAAGAAGCUAACCAGUAUAUAAAAAAUUAAUAAAUAAAUUAUGAGGUGAUAAAAGUUAAUAAAAAAUUUGAUUAAGGUGGACAAAUUUUAUUACGAUGGGUGACAGUGGUUACAAGGACCCAAAAUUAUUUUUUAAAAUUUAACUCGAACAAAUAUAUUUGAUUCGAUUCGAUUCGAUUCGAUUUGAUUUGAAUUCCAUCUCACUCGACUCGAUUUGAGAAAAUUUCAAAUCAAAUUAGGAUGAUAAAAUAUGAUUCGUCAACUCGAUUAACUUGAAAUUUUUUUAUUCAAUUCGAUUCGAUUCGAUCAAACGCUCACCCCUAGUUUAGUGACUAAUAGUAUAGCCUUUUUUUGGUAAAAUGAAAAUUUGACCCUGAUUUUGUAUAAUAAAAAACUCAAAAUUAUUUAUACAAUGGAAAAUUGUAUAUUAUUCAACAUAGGGAUUUUUUACCCAAAUCAUAUAAAAAAUAAUUAAUUAUAAAAAUAAGGCAUUUGGUACAAUGUUCUAUAACAAAAUAAAUAGUUUUAAUGAUUGUUUUCUUAAAAACUGAAAAGCGAUUUGCCAGAAUUAAUAUUGUCAAAACACACAAUUUCAAAUUUAUUUUUUGGGUUUUUAAACAAGUUAAUGUAAUUUCUCCAUAUUCGACCAUAACGUAUGAACUAGGUUUGUGGCAUUACAAUUUUUGUCCUCAAUUUAUAUAUAUAUAUAUUUAUCAAUAUGACCCUGAUUUUAUAUAAAGAAUUAAAAUCAUUUAUAAAAUAGAAAAAUGUAUAUAAAAUUCUAGAAAAAUAAAAUCUUGAAUAUGUUGUUGAAGAACUAAAAUAUGUGAGAAAUAAAGAAAAGUAUAAUUCAAUAGAAUCCAAAAAUAAAUUAGAAACAAAACGAAAUAAAAAAGUUCAGUUUCAUGCUCUUGAAGAACAUCUAGGAUUGAUAUUAGAGAGACUUAUAAAAUCUACCCGACUGUCAUUUAUUUUGUCAAAAGAUUACAAAAUAUGCCACAAUUUUUUUUUUCAAACUCAAUUCAAACUUUAAUUACAUUUAAAUUAUUUUUCAAAACCCAAAUUGUAAAAACAAAAUGUGUUUCUUCUUCCAUGGUUGAGUUGGGCUUGGACAAGAUUUUUAUGUCUUGAGCUGUUCCAACUUGAAUUCAAUUUAAAUAAUAAAAAAUAUUUUUAAAUUUAAAAUUUAAUUAAGAAUAUAAAAAUAUUUUUAAUAUUUUAUUAUUUUUUGAACUCUCAAAUGGACUUUUUAGGGUUGACUGAGCUUGGCUAAAAAUGGGUUAGGCUUGAAAAAAUUUUAGAUUAUUUUUAGGAGUAUAUCAAGGAGUCUAAUAAUUACAAUUUUUUAAAAGGUUUUAAUAACACUAGAAAUCUUAUCAUACGCAUAAGCAUGUGAAAAUCACAUAUUUAGGACACAUAUUUGUGUUUAAAAAGAACGUACAAUAAAUAAUGAAGAGUAUGAUUCGGAACUAAUUAAUAAUAACACAUGAAAUAUGUAUGAUAUUAAAAUAAAAAUUACAUUAAAUUGAGAGUGAAAUAAAAUUUAAACCAAAAACACAUGAAUAUUAAAUGAAAACAAAUGUUUAUCAUUGUUUUGUCUUCAAUACUGAGUUGGUGUCAUGUUCAUUUGUGACGCUAAAUCAAUGACAUUAUUUACAUAUACAAAUAUAUAAAAAUUUAGAACACAAAUAUACUUAUUAAAGUUUCAAAUGAAAACCUUAAAUUGUUUUAGUUAUAAUGUAAAUGAAAAAGCUUUAUAUGCAUGGUGUCCCCUUGUUCAAAUAUCAUUAAUAUGGGUAAAUUUUUAUUGAUUUAUAAAAAAAUAUAAAAGGAUGAAAACACCAUCAUAAACAUAUAUAUUACUUUGCAAAUAAAAUAGUUUUUUUUUGUAAUUUUCUUAUUGAGUUAGGACCCGAUUGAUGAGUGACACCAACUCAAUAAAAUAUUUAAUACAUAGUAUAGAUAAAACAAUUUUAAUCUAAAAUGUUUAAAAGAAUUUAGGGUAAAAUUCAACAAUGGGUAAGUUUUCAUUUUGGUCACUUAACUAAAAAAUGUUACAAUUUGAUCACUAAUAUUUUCGAAAUUAUUUUCUUUUUGUCACCCGACUGUUAAGUGGCACUUGUUUCAAUUGGUAUAAUAAUAAUUCUAGUCAUUAGUUUUUAUAUUUUCUGUCAAUUUGACUCUGAUUGUGUAUAAAAUAUUAUUAAAAUUAUUAGAUUUAAUUUCAAGUUGUAACAUAUGAUUAUGCAUUCUUAUACCCUGAUGUCCCAUACUUUCCGAUUAAUUAUUAGAUUUAAUAAUAAAUUUAGCCUUUAACGUUUGAUUAUUUUGUUAAAAUGGCCCUAAUUGUGUUUUUGAUUUUUAUUUUUUUUGCUAUCAACCUUUGUUCUUUUUUUUAAUCUUCUUUUUUUAAUAUAUUUAAUGAAAGUACUUUAAAAAAGUUGACCGCGAAAAUGUGAAAUUUCAUAUGUCAAAUAUUUUUAAUGAGAUAUAAUUUAUUAGUUAAAUAACCCUAUAAGAUAAUUACAUGUAGAAAAUAUUAAAAUAAAUAAUACAUUAAAUUGAAAAAAAUAAUUUAAAGAAAAUAAAUGUAAUUAUUUAAAAAAAACUAACUCAGUAGAAAAACUUCUCAGUAAACAAACAUACGAAAGAUUCAAAACUUUUGAAAGAAAAGAAAUAUUGAAACAAAGGUUGAUGGUAAAGAAAAGCUCAAAAGUAGAAUUAGUGAUCAAAUUUAUCAUUAAAUCUAAUUAUUAUUAUUAUUAUUAUUAUUAUUAUUUAAUGCCAAUUAUAAUGGGUGACAGCAAAGAAAAAAGUAAAAAAAGAUGGAUUUCUUACUCAUAUCCACAACAUUCGUCUUUUUAUACAUGUAAUUAUGCUUUCCCAUUAAUUAUUAAUUAUUUUCUCUUUCUUCUGCUUCUUCACAUAUUGCUAUCACAAUUUUGCUUAUUUCUGUUUUCACCUUCUUCUUCACUCUUUUUAAUUUCUUUUGAUCUCCAAGGUCUAUCACUAAUUUUCAAGCAUCCAGUCAAGGUAAUUUUCUGUCAUUUGCUUCAUUCAUGACUAUACAAUGAUUGUUUUUAUUAUCAGCUACUGUUAUAGCAGCUAGCUUUGUAAGAUAGUCAAGGUAAUAAGAUCUGAAGCAAUGAUUCCUCUACUGAUUAUCAAUUUUAAGACGUACAGGAUGAUCAGCAGACAUAGUCUACUAUAGAUACAAAUUAAUACGAAAAGAGCUACCCAGAAGCAAUAUAAUGUUGAAAUCUCAUGCUGUUGGAACAUUUUACCUCUUAAUAUUCUGUAAUGCUCUUGCACACUUGAAUCUAGCAUGUUAUAUAGUUUGAGAGGUUGAUUCUGGAUAUACAAUGGUGACCAGAAUUUCAUCAUGUUUCUGCCUGCUACCCAUCCAUAGCUCCAUCUAAUAGACGCCAUUGCUUGAAACUUGCAUUCAUGCUUACACUCACAUAUCACAACUUCAUAAAAAAUCCAAUACAUUCACAGAUUUUCAAUGAUUUUGUUUUGAUGUCCAAGGUCUAUCACAAAAUUUCAAGCAUCCUGUCAAGGUAAUUUUCUUUCAUUUGCUUAAUCCAUCACAUGCUUUUCUUUGCUUGAUUCAUGACUUUGCAAUGAUUGUUUCUGAUUAUCUGCUACUCUUAGCAGCUAGCUUUGUAAGACAGUCAAGGAAGAAGUCAACUUCACUGCUUCAUUUUCAGUUUUAUUCUCUCAACACUUUUCAGCCACUAAGUUAGGUAAUAAGAUCUGAAGCUAUGAUUUCCUCUACUGAUUAUCAACAGUUUUAGAUUUUAAGACAAGAUGAUCAGCAAACGUAAUCUACUCUAGAUUGAAAUUAAUACAGAAAGAGUACCCAGAAGCAACAUAAUGUUGAAAUCUCAUACUGUUAACAUUUUAACUCUUAAUAUUCUGUAAUGAACUGUUGCACACUUGAAUCUAGCAUUUUAUAUACAUUGAGAGCUUAAUUCUGGUGACCAUAAUUUCAUCAUGUUUCUGUCAGCCACCCAUCCAUAGCUCCAUCUAAUAAACGCCAUUGCUUGAAACUUGCAUUCAUGUUUUCCUUUUCAUGCUUACACUGACAUAUCAAUACUUCAUAAAAUAUCCAAUUCAUUCACAGAUUUUCAUUCUCUGCUACUGUUUUUUUAUGAUUGCAUUGCAGGGACAUAGCAAUGGAGUACGUAGAGCCUGUUGUCGGCAUUGCAAAUUGUCUCGGAACUCCUGUUUGUAAAUAUUUGCAAUAUCACAGAAAGCUGAACGAUUAUGUGAGAAACUUCAAGAGGAUCAGAGAUGAAUUGAAUUGCAAAAUGGAAGAUAUAGAGCUGCAAUUGAAAGCAGAGCUUCUUCGUCCUCUGGGGAAGAUACCCAAGCAGGGAGUUGAAAAUUGGUUGAAAGCUGUGAAAGAGAUGAUUAGGGAAGCACAAGUUGUUGAAAACAAAGUCAGUAACGGGAGAUAUCUCUGUCGUGCUUGCAACGGGAAGCUGGUUGAUGAAAAGACUCGAGAAAUGAAGGAAUUUCUUGAUAAAGCUCCUAAUGCCUCUGAAGCUCUUGCCAUGGAUGGUCCAAGUGCGGGGUUGCCACUGCCAACAUCAGAACUAGUUGGAGAGGAAGCUGUCAGAAAUGAGAUUUGGGCAUGUUUGAUGCAGGAGGAGCUGAGCAGGAUUGGGGUUUGGGGGAUGGGCGGUGUGGGUAAAACCACUAUUAUGAAGCACAUCCACAAUGAUCUUUUGAAAGAACAAAGAUUCGAAAGGGUAAUCUGGGUUACCAUUUCAAAGGAGUUCAAUGUAAUGAAGGUACAAGAUAAUAUUGCAAGUGCGUUGGAGUCGAAGGAAUAUCUAGACAAAGAAGAGGACAAGCUCAGACGAGCUGCAAUCUUGUCAGAAAUGCUGAAGAACGCAGGAAAGCAUGUUCUAAUCCUAGAUGAUGUGUGGCAUAAAGUCUCUCUAGAGGAAGUUGGGAUCCCUGAGCCUAGUGGCAGCAAUGGCUGCAAGUUGGUGUUGACAACCCGUUCGGAGCAUGUCUGUAAGUAUAUGGGUUGUAAGGUGAUAAAAGUGAAGCCCCUUUCAGAAGAAGAGGCAUUGAUACUAUUCUUGAAUAAAGUUGGACCUAACAUAGUUCAAAGUCCAACUAUAAUGCCUAUUUUGAAGCUUGUUGUCAAGGAAUGUGCGGGUCUACCUCUUACAAUUGUCGUGGUAGCUGGUACCAUGAAAGGAGAAGAUACCCCUCUUAUUUGGAAAAAUGCACUCGGGGAAUUAAAAGAGAGAAUAGGAAAAGUUGAAGGAGUGGAAGCUGAGGUAAUCGAGCGCUUGAAAUUUAGCUUCGAUCACUUAAAGGACGAGAAAGUGAAAUAUUCUUUCUUAAAUUGUGCAUUAUAUCCCGAAGAUUUUGGAAUUGAAAAGGAUGAACUAAUUGAGUGCUGGAUUGAGGAGGGAUUCAUAGAUGAUAUGGGUACAAGACAAGAAAUGAAAGACAAGGGCCAUGUUAUUUUGAAGAAGUUAGAAGAGAAUUGCUUGUUGGAAAAUAAUACCAAUGUACGUGUUCAACCUUGCAUAAAGAUGCAUGAUGCAGUGAGAGACAUGGCAUUGUUGUUGGAGCAAGAGGCAGCAGCAGCAAGCUUCAGCAGAAUGCUUGUUUUGCAAGUCUCGUGACUUGUAGGAGAAACAAAGCAGAAAACUCAAAUGGAUUUUAAGCAAAACUAAAAAAUGGAGAGCAUAUGGAUGAAAACUUGUUGAAUUCAUUCAUUGAAAAUUAAAAUGGCCCAAAGCCAAUACAUAAACAAGUUUACAAUCUUGACAAAACGGUAGGUUGACCUAAACUUCACCUACUACCACUAAUACACAUAGUAACUUGUGCUAAUUAGCUUGAACAAAUAAACAAAGCUGAUUUAUCAGCUCAAUCAACAUCAAAAUUACAUCAAGCAUAAACCUAACAUAGUUAUAAAGCAACUAAGUUACAUUACUCUAACUUAAAAUUACAAAAUGAAACAUAAACAGCUUGCUGACUAGGUGAACCAGCAGCUUCUGCAUGUAGUGCCUUUGACAGUCUUGGUUGCUGCAUGCUGAUCAUAACUUCAAUACUCCUCCUUGGUUAGCAUGUUGCAAACUCCCAUAUUAGUUCUCAGGCGUUGAAACUUGGAAACACUUAGUGCUUUUGUUAAAAUAUCAGCAAUUUGCUCUUCAGAACUGCAAUGUAUCAGCUUAACAACAUGAGCUUGUUCCAUUUCUCGAACUGCAUGAAGUUUGAUGUUGAAGUGCUUGGUCCUUCCAUGAAAAACAGGAUUCUUUGCAAUAGCAACUGCUGAUUGGUUGUCACACAUUAUCUCAGUUGCUUCCUUUUGCUCAUGAUUGAUAUCUUUCAAAAUUUUUCUAAGCCAUAUGGCUUGAUUGACUGCUGCAGCAGCAGCCACAUAUUCUGCUUCUGCAGUCGACUGAGCCACUACUCCCUGCUUCUUUGAGCUCCAGCAAAUCAUAGCAGAGCCUAUGUUGAAUGCAUAACCUGUAGUGCUCUUCAUGUCAUCCAAGGAACCAGCCCAAUCACUGUCACAAUAUCCAACUAGCUUCAAGUUCUCAGCCUUGGUAAACUGCAUUCCAUAGGACAAAGUUCCUUUGAUGUAUCUUAGAACCCUUUUUGCAGCUCUAAAAUGACUUUCAUUUGAACAAUGCAUAAACCUCGAGAGUAGACUCACAGCAUACAUUAUGUCAGGUCUAGUAGCAGUCAAAUACAACAAACAUCCAACUAGACUUCGAUAGGUUGUUUCACAAACCUUUUCAUGCUUGUCUUGGCUCGAGAGUUUUUCUCCAACAGCAACUGGUGUGCUGGUUGCUUUGCAAUUCUCCAUUGAGAAUUUGUUGAGAACCUUCAUAGCAAAGGUCUUUUGACUUAGCCAAAUCCCAUUCUUAGCUUGGGUUACUUCCAUGCCUAAGAAGUAAGACAUCAAUCCCAAGUCUGACAUUUCAAAGUGCUGUUGCAUUUUGACUUUAAAGCUGCUUAGCAUCUCAUGAUCUCCUCCUGUCACCAAUAGGUCAUCGACAUAUAUUGAGACAAUGAGCUGAGUUUCAGCACUAGUUGAUUUUACAUACAGAGUUGGCUCGCUAAGACUUCUUUCAAAUCCUUGACUGGUCAGAUAGCCAUCUAUUCUGCUAUACCAGGCCCUUGGAGCCUGUUUCAAGCCAUACAAGGCUUUGUUGAGCUUGUACACCAUUUCUUCCUUGCCAGACACCUUGAAACCUUGAGGUUGCUCCACAUAAAUCUCCUCUUCAAGGAAUCCAUUCAGAAAUGCUGAUUUUACAUCAAGUUGGUGUAUCAGCCACUGUUUUUGUGCUGCUAAGGCAACUAGCAGUCUGAUAGUGUCUAGCCUGGCCACUGGUGCAAAGGUUUCCAGGUAGUCUGAUCCAUACCUUUGACUGAAACCUUUCACAACCAAUCUAGCCUUUAACUUGUUUAGGCUACCAUCAGCAUUGUUCUUUACUCGAUAAACCCAUUUGACACCAAUAAUCUUCCUGUUUGUUGGUUUAUCAACCAGACUCCAGGUCUGAUUCUUUUCAAUCAUUCUGAUUUCUUCAAUCAUUGCUUGCUUCCAGUCCUCCUGGUUUUCUGCUUCUUCAAAGCAACUUGGUUCAAUAGUAGCCACUUGUGCUCUUUCAUAAACAUCAACCAGUGAUCGAGUGCCUCUGAUUGGAACAUCAUCUACAUCCAUUUCAGGUGUGUUUUCAUCAUUUUCAACUUGAUCCACUGCGAGAUCUUCAGCCACUGCCUCUGGUUCAGCCUUCUCCCAAUUCCAGUGUCCUUUUUCAUUGAAAACAACAUCCCUGCUAACCAAUAUCUUGUUUGUAGCAGGUUCUAGGAUUCUGUAGCCCUUCUUAACCAAGCUAUAGCCGAUCAGGAUGCCUGCUUGAGCUCUUUUAUCUAGCUUGCUUCUCUUCUCAGCUGGAACUUGUGUGUAGCACAGACAACCAAAGGUUCUGAGAUGAGCCAGUGAUGGCUUAAACCCAAACCAGGCUUCAAAUGGAGUCUUUUCAGCCAGAGCCUUGGUUGGGAGCCUGUUUUGGAGAUAGACUGCUGUGUUAACAGCUUCAGCCCACAGAGUUUUGGGCAAAUUCUUCUCAAACAGAAGACAUCUUGCCAUGUUCAUCAAGCUUCUGUUUUUCCUUUCACUGACCCCAUUCUGUUGGGGUGUAUACACAUUAGUCAACUGGUGUUUGAUACCUGCUUCUUCACAGUAGGCUUGGAACUGAGCUGAGGUGUACUCAGUUCCAUUAUCUGACCUCAUUGCUCUAAGUUUGCAACCAGACUCAGUUUCAACAGCAGCUUUAUACUUCAGGAACACAGAUGAAACUUCUGACUUCUGUUUUAAAAAAUAAAUCCAGCAGUAUCUUGUUAAGUCAUCAAUAAAUAAAAUAAAGUACCUGCUUCCUUUGAGAGACUCAGUCUUCAUUGGUCCACACACAUCUGUAUGCACAAGCUGAAGCUUCUCUGAUGCUCUCCAUGUUGUGCUUGCUGGAAAUGGCAAUCUUGCCAAUUUUCCUUGCUGACAUAUCUCACAAAGCUCAUCAUUCUUCACUGAAUCGAUGAAAUUUUCUGCCAGUCCUUCAUUGACCAUGCGGGCUAUGGAUUUGUAGUUUGCAUGUCCAAGCCUCUGGUGCCAGAGUCUCGAGUCAUCAGUGGAGGCUAUGCAGGCUGAAUGUGAGUCAUUUGGCCAGUCUACUUCAAAACAUUUAUCAGUCAUGGUGACUGUUAUGAGGUUUGAUCCACUUGGAUAAAAAAUUUGACAUUCUUUCUCCUUGAAAACAACUGAGUAACCUUUCUCAAGUAGUUGACUUAUACUGAGAAGGUUCCUAUCGAUUUCAGGUACCAAAAGUACAUUUGAAAUGAUUUUGCCACCUGUAGAGGUAUGAAUCAGCACAUCUCCUCUUCCUUCAGCAUUGAUUAACUGACCAUUUCCAAUUUUUACUUUGGUUUUGCAGGUUCUGUCCAGGGUUUUGAAGAUAGUUACAUCUGGUGACAUGUGGUUUGUGCACCCACUGUCUAGAAGCCAGCCCUUUGAACCCUUUUUGUGAUUUGCUGCACAUGACACAGCAAAAACAUGUUCUUCUUGAUCACUACUUUCUUCAGCUACUCGAGCUUCUACUUUUUGUUGCUGAAAUUGAUUCUGUCUUGGUUUGCUUCUAUUCUUGCAAACUUUUUCAGCAUGGCCCUUUUUCUUGCAGUGUUGGCAUACUGCAUCUGGUCUAAACCAGCAUCUAUCUUCUGGAUGACCAGCUCUUUUACAAUGUCUGCAGAGUUGGUCACUGCUCCUAGCAGCAUCAGGCUUAGGCCUGUUUUUCCAGAACUUUUUGCCUUUAUGAGUUUUGAUGCUCGAGGCUUCUUUGGCUUGAAAAGCCCCUUCCUGGUGCUCCUCUUGUCUGCUGGCUCUUCUUUGCUCUUGUGCAUACAAGGCAUUGAUUAGCUCAGUUAAGGAGAUAGUUGUCAAGUCCCUUGAGUCUUCGAGGGAUGAAAUUUUAGCUUCAUACCUCUCUGGUAGAGUGGACAUGACUUUCUCAACCAUUCUAGCUUCACUGAAUUGCUCUCCUAGGAGCCUUAUGCUGUUUACAACAGCCAUAAUCCGAUCUGAGUACUGCUUAACUGUUUCUUCCUCUUUCAUUUUGAGAUUUUCGAAAUCUCUUCUCAAGUUGAGCAGCUGUUGUUGCCUUGUUUUCUCAGUCCCCUGAAAUUCUUCUUUCAGCUUGUCCCAAGCCUCCUUUGGUGUUUCACAGGCCAUGAUCCUCAUAAAGAUCACAUCUGUCACACAAUUCUGUAUGCAUGACAUGGCCUUGUGCCUUUUUGUUCUUUCAUCAGUGUGUUGCCUUAUUUGAGCAACUGUUGGAUUUGCUCGAAGAGGUGCUGGCUCAGCAUCUGAGUUGACAACUUCCCAUAGGUCGAAUGCCUGCAGGUAAGUCCUCAUCUUAACUGCCCAAAUGUUGAAGCCCUCUCCAUUGAAGACAGGUGGUGAAGCUGGUGAAAAACCUGAUGAUGCCAUCGUUUUGAUGUUGAACUACAACAGGUCCUCUAAGAAUACGGCUCUAGAUACCAAUUGUUGGAGCAAGAGGCAGCAGCAGCAAGCUUCAGCAGAAUGCUUGUUUUGCAAGUCUCGUGACUUGUAGGAGAAACAAAGCAGAAAACUCAAAUGGAUUUUAAGCAAAACUAAAAAAUGGAGAGCAUAUGGAUGAAAACUUGUUGAAUUCAUUCAUUGAAAAUUAAAAUGGCCCAAAGCCAAUACAUAAACAAGUUUACAAUCUUGACAAAACGGUAGGUUGACCUAAACUUCACCUACUACCACUAAUACACAUAGUAACUUGUGCUAAUUAGCUUGAACAAAUAAACAAAGCUGAUUUAUCAGCUCAAUCAACAUCAAAAUUACAUCAAGCAUAAACCUAACAUAGUUAUAAAGCAACUAAGUUACAUUACUCUAACUUAAAAUUACAAAAUGAAACAUAAACAGCUUGCUGACUAGGUGAACCAGCAGCUUCUGCAUGUAGUGCCUUUGACAGUCUUGGUUGCUGCAUGCUGAUCAUAACUUCAAUAAUUGUCGAUCACAAGAAUGAAUCCUCGAUAUAUGAUACAAUCAGGUUUGCAAUUAAAAGAGUUACCAGAAAAGGAGCAAUGGAGUCCGAAUAUUGAGAAAGUGUCUCUUAUGUAUAACUCCAUAUCAGAAAUUUCCAUAGAUGUGCUGCCCCCAAAAUGUCAACUGCUCACAACCUUGUUAUUGCAGCAUAACCCCAUAAAGAAGAUCCCAUAUUAUUUCUUCACAAACAUGCCUUGUCUUAGUGUUCUCAAUUUGUCUUUUACAAAGAUUGAGAGUUUACCAAAUUCCAUCUCUGAACUAAAGAACCUCACAACAUUGUUGCUUCGUGGUUGUUCUGAAUUAAGAGAUCUACCAUGUCUUUCGAUGCUUCAAGAAUUGAAGAAGUUGGAUAUAAGUCGUACAAGAAUUGGGAAAGUACCUGAAGGCAUGGAUAUGCUGAUAAAGCUAAGACAUCUUGAUCUUAGUGUGUGGAAUGUGAAAGAGAUACCCGCUGGACUUUUACCAAAACUCGUUCACCUUCAGCACUUGAGUUUUGAUGUGUACAAUGAAAAAACAAGUCUAAAAGCAAAGGAGAUGGAACCAUUGAAGAAGUUGGAGUGCUUUACGGGACGUUUCGAAGACAUCAGUGAAUUCAAUAAGUUCAUCUCCUCAAUGCAACAAAGUAAGAAAAAUCUCAUCAAGUACUAUUUACAGGUGGGCUCAUAUUUUGUGGGUGCUACAAGAGAUAAAAAAGUAACAAUUGGAGGAGUCCAAAAUUGGGAAGAUGAGUUAAUUAUGCACCCAAUUAAAAUUCAAGAGUUGAAUAUUUUACAUUGCGACUAUUCGAUAAACUUAGUCGAUGAUAAUUCUUCCUUCAAAAAUGCGAUUGACUUGAGGGUUUGUAGGAUUUAUAAUUGUAAAGGGAUAGAGUGUGUUGUUUCCCUGUCCUCUUUUGCCUCUUCUUCCGCUCAUCCAUUUCAGAGCCUCGAGGUGUUGCAUCUUCGAUCUCUGCCAAAGUUGAGUGCCCUUAUUAUGAAAGAUGCAGGAAUUGGUUCAGCAACAACGUCAACGUUGGCUCCGUCUACCACCUUUUCCCAUCUUAAGGAAAUUGAUGUACGGGGAUGCUCAAGUAUGAAGACGUUGCUUCCACAUUGGUUGCUUCCAAACCUCCAAAACCUGGAAAAAAUAUAUGUGCGUGCUUGUAGUCAGCUAGUAGAAAUAUUGGGAGCAGAAACAUCAGAAGUUGAAGAAAAAGGGAGUGAUGCAUUAAUCAAAUUCCAUCUUCCCAAAUUGAUAGUGUUGGAAUUGAGCGAAUUACCAAAUUUGAAGAGCAUAUGCAGCAAAAGUGGAGUGAUGGUUUGUGAUUCUCUCCAAUUUAUGAAAGUUGAUGGAGAUUGUGAUAAACUGAGGAGAAUUCCUCCUUUUGUUCCCCUUGUUGGCAAUGGGCAGCCAUAUGCAUAUGCUCCACCUUCUCUUACCAUCUUCUCAAGCACAGAAUGGUGGGAAUCGUUGGAGUGGGAUGACCAUCCAAACUAUAAAAAUGUUCUUCGCUUCAACCCUACAUUGAGGAUAAGAGGUAUGAACCAUUUAUGGUUUUGUUUAUUUUUUUUAUUUUGAUAAAUCUAAUUUCUCCAUUUUAAUAAAAUUUCAGAUAAAUCUGGUAAUGUUGUUGAAGAGAAAGAUGAAAGGGUUGGUGGGAAAGAAGUAGGGGGGGGAGGAUAGUGCAAAAGAGAGGAGAAAAGGAAUGAUGGAAGGAAUGAUAGAGGCAAAGGUAAAUAAGAAAUCAAACUGCCUCCACUUUUUAUACAUUUUCCCUCUCUUACCAUUCCUUCUAUUCUCUUACCACUUUUUAUAUAUAUAUGUAUAUAUAUGUACUUCCCAAAAUAACCUUCUAAAUAUUUAUGAUUAAAAUAUUUAUAUUAAUCAAAAUGAUUUAAGGUGAGACAAAUCUUAUUUCCAAUAAAAGUUCGGAAAGUAAUGUAAAAAUACAUAAUAUUUUUUAAUUUCCAUGUAAAAUUUCUGGAAACAUUAAGAUUUAAAAAAUAAUAAUUGCUUGUUUUUUUAAAACAUAAUAUUUAUUAAAAAAUAUAAUUGGAUUCAUUCAUAUGUAAACGCAAGCAUAAAGAUUAAAACAAUAAUGUAAUUUCAUAAAAGUAUGAUAUUAGAAAUUAAAAGUGGAAAUUAAAUAAGAUGAAUUCCUUUUCUUGAGUAAUAUAAAAAUUGUAGGGAUAGUUAAUAAUAUUAACAUAUUUCUAAUAUUAAAUAAUAUUUUAAAUUAUGAGGACUAAAUGAGAAAAUUAAAAAGGUGAAAUCCCUUUUAAAAUAAAUUAAAAACAUUAAGGGUAUUAUGUUGCAAAUAACCCCUCCACGUUCCCAUAUAUAAAAGACAUUUUCCUUUUUCUUUUAAUUUGUGAUAAGUUGGAAAAUAAAAAAACAAAAAAAAAAAAAACUUAGUUUCCUUUUUUAUUCUUGUUUCAUUUUGUUGUCCGACUUUUUUUUUGAAGCUGAAGAUUUAAAGUUUUUUAGUAUUAAAUACCAAAAUAUCAUAGGUUCUCAAUAAUUAUGUAGUUUGUAAUGCCAGAAAGUUUACAUUUUUUAAAUAUCAUAGGGACACUAGCGUGUGUCCAGACUGUGUGUGACUAUGUUAGUGCAGGGUUCACACAGGCCAAGGACACGAACGUGUGUCCAGGUCGUGUAACUCACUAUUUACAAAAUAAGGAUCUCACGAACGGAUGACACAGCCGUGUGUUAGGCCAUGUGAGACACACGGGCAAGCAAACAGGAAUGUGUCAGGCUGUGUGGGGCUACACGGGUGUGUGGGCCAGUUUACGAAAUUUUUUCAUUUCCUGAACUUCGUUUGAAAUGAAUACAAGCCUUCUGUGAGGCUGUAUGAACUGAAUUAAAUUGUAUAAAUUGAUAUUCUAUGAUCUGAAAUUGAGUACUAAUAAUGUGCGUGUGUAUUGUAUAUGACCAAUGUUAAUAGUAUCGAUCUCCUGUAUUCAAGCAUGAAUUGUAUCUAAAUAUUCACAUUUGUAUUAACUGUCAUGUGAAGUCUGCAUAUGCAUUGGGUGGAAAUUGAGCAAGAAGGAUGUAUUCUGUUCUAACAUAAUGAUUAAAUCACUACCAUAUGUACUCUGAUCUAAUAGCUAGACUGCAAUUUCUGAAACGUGUUAGAUCGACCCUAUAUGGUGUGUAGGAUUGGAUGGGUUAUAAGUAUCCUAUUUCAUGUGUUAGGUUGGUUGGAGAUGGUGUGUAACGGCUGGGAUUAAGAAAAUUGCAUAUGUUCUGUUCUGUUCUGUAUCUGAUUAUAGUUUGAUUUGAUAUCUGUCUGUAUUGUUCUGAUCCGUAAAUUAAUGAGCUAUUUCCUAAGUCUAAAUCGGUAUUUGCACUUGGACAUCUACUGGUUUAAUCCACACUCUAUUGAAUAUGUAUAUAGUUGGUUUCUUUAUGAGAUAUUAAAUCAUUUUUUUGUUGAAUGAAUUAUAGGUAAAUCACAAGCUUAGAGAAGUCGGUGGAUGGGGAGCUCAGUUUCAUUGUUUUAAACUGUUUAGUAGUACUAGUAUUGUUAGUUGUUAUUCAUAUUUUCAAUUUACUUGGACGAUAAACCUCAAAUUUCUUACCUUGUUAGUUCUUUAAAUCUUAUAUGACUCUGAAGGAUUUUAAAGUUAAGUUAUGAAGUUGCUUUAUUAUUAUAGUUCGUUGUAACCCUCCAGGCUUGGUCUUGUCGUCUAGACCGGGUAUGGAGUGUUACAUUCCUUUAUAAUAUUUAGCAAUGCCAACAAUGUUAAAAUUGUAUUGGUAAAAAAAGUAAAUUUAAUUUUAUAAAUAGAUUUUCACAUAAACAUUAAACAUUUUUACUCUACAAAAAAAAUUAAUAUAAAAUAUUUAAAUAAAUACCCAUGAUGAAUACAUGCAUUGUACAAGUUAUAUAUCAACAUUUAACAUUUUAUCCAAAAAGUUAAUGAUACUAACUGUAUAGACUAUAUAUCUAAUAAUAUUACAAAAAUAUAGAGACUAAAUUAUGUUAGAAAUUAAAGUAUAAAGAUUAAAUCAUAAAUUUAGAUAUAAUAGAGGGAUCAAAACUUAAAAUCAUGAAAAAUUCCUUAACAAAAUCUUUCCAUUUAACAACCAAACAUCAUAAACCACCAUUAAACUUCAAAAAUCUACCAUCUUCAUCAAUGACUUCUUCCAAAUCAUUAACAAUUUAACAAAAAAAAAUCCUUGGAUUAGAUAGAUAGAGUUAAAAUGAUCCCAAAAACAUUAAAUUCAUGAAAAACAGAUUAAAAUAUUCUUACAUGCAUUAACCUUAAUGACUGAAAAUGCAAGCUACAAAUAGACUAUUCUUUUCUCUAUUUUCGGCAAGAACACCUAAAAAAGAUGAUAAUUUUCAUUAAUUUUUCUUUUAUGUUUUCUAUUCUUUAUUUUCAUAAGUACUUACUUAUCCUUGUAAUAUAACUAAACAAUGAACUAAACUUAGUCUAUAUUUGUCCACUAAAGUUCUAUAUGGUUUAAUUACCACAUAGAUCCAUCCACUCAAAUAAUACUAACCAUUUAAUACAGUUAACUAUGGGAACUAACUUUUUAAGUUUUUACAAUUUAAUCCUUUUUAAUUAAUUAACUAUCUAAACAAUAACCUUCUUAACUAAAAUUUAAUAGACACUAAUGACCUUGUAAAUACUAAAUUAACCUGAAAAAUGAGAAAACAAUUUAAUCCUUUUUAAAUUAAUUAACUAUUGGCCGGACCCUCGGGCUUUCAGAGAAAACAAAAAGUGGUUUUUUUUUUUUUGAGAAGUGAGAGAAAAUGAAAUUUUUUAAAAAAUUUUGGUUUAUAUAAGGCCUUACAAACGACGAUGAUAUAUAAGCUUGUGAAAGUUAAAGUGAACAGAUGAUGAUAUUUAUAAGUAAAUAUACACUUUGAUGAUGCUUGUUUAUGUGUAUGGUGCCAAAGAUUUGUUGCUUGAAUAGAAAUGAAGGCAUGUCUUUUACCUGUUAAGUUAAUUUUGGUUAUAUGAUGGGCCCUAUAAUGUGGAUAGUUGGGUGGAUAGUAAAAACAAACUGAAAUUAUUCAAAGUUUAAGUGGGAAACCAAAACAGAGUUUAACUGAGAGAAGAAAAAAAAACAAACUUGAUGAACACGUCACCACGUCGUGACGUAGCAUUCUUGUCAUCGUGACAGGGAGAUGUUACGUUGUUGAGAUGAAGGCUUUCUUCUUAUCAUGACAUUGGUUGUUUGUCGCGGCGUUGAGCUUUAUCUUGUUGGGACAUCACUUACUAUUUUGUUUGAAAUGUGAGGCAAACGCCAUAAAGUGUAUAGUGAUAUAGAGCCAUGGUUGUUUGAACCAAGAAUCAGUCAAGGUACUAGUUCGAAGUGAGGCAUCAGACCACUUCACCCGCGAAUCGGUGCAAACCUAUUGAACAAGAUUAAAGAAAACUAGUUUUUUUUUUUAUGAGUUUUUAAUGAUUUAUUUAAUUGAACAAUACAGACUAAUAGUUUACCGGUUCAACUACUUCUAAAAACCUUAGAAUAUAUUUUAAUCUUUAAAUUUUUACUCAAACACUAAUAAUAAAUUUUAAUCUUUAAAUUUAUUUUAUAAUUUAACAUAAAUAGAAAAUAACUCAACCGUACUAGCAUUAAAGAAAAAGGAAAUCCAUAGUGGUACGAGUCACGCAAAGGAAGGAACUGCCAACAUCCUUGAAGCUCUAUAAUUAUCAAAAUUGAAAAACAAAAUGCCAACAUCCUUUAAGCUUUUGCACUAGAAUCGAAAUUAAAAAAGAAAAAGGAACUGCCAACUUUCGUUAAGAACAAGUAGUUGAAACUCUUCGUUGACACCUGAAUAACCAAGGUUCAUCCCUUAUCGUACUCUCCUAUCAUAACGCGACAACAAACUUUGCAUUGUUUCUACUCAAAAGGGUGACAUCAAAAUAUAUUUUGUUGAAUUUGAAAAGGAAAAUUUAAGAACAGUGAAGUACAUCCAACUAUGAAAGACUAACGUUGAGAUUGACCUGGUGCUAAUUUGCACUCAGCAGAGCUCUUGCAUGUCCUUUAGAUAUCUGUAGCUGCUCUGUUAUGCCAAAAUGAGCCAUAAGAAGCCAAACAUGGGUUAGAAGCUCUCCACCCCUUCUCAGUUGAUUAGCAUGCUGAGUUCCCCCACAAUGACUUGCAGCAUAAGUUAGCAUCUCUAACCAAAUUUCUUUAAUCAUCUCCCAUUUUACCUUUUUGUCUGAUAUGCCUUCAAGUGUUGAUGCCAGCUUGCAAGCGUCAAACAACACAGAUUUGCUUUUAUCCCCUUUUACUUUGCUCGGGUCUACAUCGGUCUUCACAUGAAGCAACAUACUGCAAGCAUCCUUCACACUCAUUAAUUGGUAUGCACUUGAAGAGAGCAGCCGUCCUUUAAAGAACCUCCAAGCUUGAAGCAACUUUCUGCAAUACUUGGUUAUUUUAUUCACUCGCUUAGCACUAGAAGAUUCCCGUCUUUCCUUGAAAAACCUCCUGGCCUCGGCUUCAGUGUCUCGAAACCUUAUAAGCCCUAUUCCUGAUGGCAACAUAAGAGGAUAAAAGACAAGGAGGUAUAUCAGGUACUUUGAGAUUAACAGGCUUGCUUCCCGACAUUGUCCAUUUUCAGUAUCACUUUGAAGACCUGAGUUGUAACAAAUCUCUGUAGCAAUGUGCCAGAUAAGAAUACUCUGGUCGAACUCAACAUCAAUACUCCACUCAAGCUUAGCUGGCAAUUUAUCCUCAUGUUUUUGAAGUAUGCUCUCUCCCCUUUGGCGGCAGAAGUCUCUAAGAUUAGUACCUUUUUUUCCCUUUUGCGCUUCAAAUUUCGCUUUGACAUGGCUAAAGAGGGUGUCUCUCAAGGAUCCCUCGAAUUUUACACUACUUCUAGGCGGCCACAUUUGCUGCACCUUUUCAAGUAUUUUAAACCCAGGUCUUUCUUCCAGGAAAUGGCUGAGUAGGCUGUACUGUGAUAUGCGACCAGACCACCUCUUUUGAUCAUACAGGGAAGUCAAACAUCUAGUGGCUCUAAUAAUGAAAGUUCUGUUAUUCUUAACCAACCAAUGGCUCGUCUGGUCUGAGCAAAGUAAUAAAAAUGCUGCAUACAUCUCCAGAAGAAUAGCUACAACAAGCAAAAGAAAAGUGAUGCAUACAUCAGCCUCUUCAUACUUGUUCAGGUUAUCAGUAGAGAACAUCCCCAACACAAGACAGGUGAGAAGGACAGUAGUAAAGCGGCAAACCAAACCGGAACGAGUAUAAUUUACCAUAGCUUUGGUGUAUAGUAAAUCAUACAUGAAUCCUAGUUCAAUGGCCACCACAUCGAAAGCAUCCUCCGGACUCAUGUCCUUGAAUAAAUUUUGGCUUUUCUCCUUGUCUUUAAAGCUUAGGAUGAGAUCUGCAAACAGACGCUUGAAUAUCUGAAACAUCACAGUGGCUUUAAUGAUUUUGUCUUGGUCAGUGCUCCUUUUUUCAGGGGCUGUAAUAUCCAUUUCUUGCUCAUCUUCCUUCACCUCUUCAAUAGUCACCAAGAACCCCUCAAAUUUCCUCAGACUGUAUUCAUCCAUCAACUUGGGGUAAUUAGGACCAGGAUCUGGAGAAGUUAGCAUCGAGUCUCGUAAUUCGCCAGGGCUUGCUCUCCAUAGAGUCCAUGUCCUCUCAGCAUACUUAAUUGAUCCAGCCACAAUCAUUGGAAUGGUUAGCUUGGAGAGAAGGGAACCUGUCCAUGCCAUGAAUAAGAUGUAUAUUGUCACAAUUGUCUGCACAAUUAGUCCAAAAAGGUGCCUUAACCAUAGCUGAUUGUCUUCCAGGGAGUAAGCUGUAAUGGCAUCUGGGCCACCCAAGUGCAGUAGGAGAAAGGGUGCCCACGUUGCUUUAAGCUCAGUGCUCAAGUCAAGAGCUCCUCCCUUAUCAUAUAUUUCACCCAGGUCAUUUGUUAGUAUGCCGAGGGCGAUAGAUGCUAGAGAAUCAGCCAGCAAAUAGGAACACCAAACAGCAGCUCUAAUCCUUCUUUUUGAAGUGCAUUUUCUGCGCUUGCCAAAUAAAAUGAGCAAAAUUUGGACCAGAAGGCUGGUUAAAACCAUUGCUCGGAGCUCCCAUUCCUUCCACAACUUCAUUAAUGAGGGAGAAAAGACCUCCACCAUCUUUCGGCUUUUCUUCACCAAAAUUAAGCUACCAACUACUGCAUAUGCACGAACAAACAAGAAUUAUUCAUAAACUUAACGCAGCUAACUAGUGAUGAUUUUCAAAAAUAAAUAUUCCAUUUUUUUCCAGAAACAUAUUUUGUUCAUUUCUUCCCAUUAUGAAUAUAUAUGCAGAAUCUAAGAAAGAAAAAUUGGUUCCUUACUUGUGGGAAUCAUUGUGAUUGUUAAUGCUUCCUGAUGAGUCUACUCGCAUCACCUAACUGGGUUUUGCUCUGCGAAACGGUUUAGCUAACAUUGAUGGGAAAAGCAGCUUCUUUACUCUAAGCGUCAAUGCGUUAUGCUUAAAUCAAAUAUUCUUAGAGUAUCCUUACAAAUUAGUUUAGAUGUGCCAACGGUAUUUUUACUUUUUUCACAUUUAAAAUUUAAAAUUUAAUCUUUAUAAUUUUCAGACUUUUUACUUAAAAAAUUCUAGUUUCUCUAUUUAAUUUUACCAUUAUCGACUUUAUAAAAAAAGUAAAAUGAAUUUUUAGUCCUUAAUAUUUACAAUUUUUUAUCAAUUUGAUUCUUACCUUUAAAAGUAAAUAAGAAAUUUUUGAAUUUACUUUUUCCAUAUUUUAUUUAAAAAUUUUAAAAUAUAUUUUAAAAAUCUAAAAUUAUGAAAGAAAUAAAAACUAUUUAAAAUUCAAAAAAUAAUCAUUUAAUAUAAAUUUUAUUAAUAAUAUAAUAAAUAAAUUAAAUCACAAAAUAUUAAUGCUAAAAUUAAAAAAUGACACUUUUGGACUAAUGUAAUUUAGAUAUUAAAUAUGAUAUAUAUGAGAUAUUGGUAUUUAUUUUAUUAAUAAAAUAUAAAGAAGCAAAUUACAUAAAAAGAUAAUCAUGUAUGAUCACAUUUUGUUAUAUAAAUCAUAUAUAAUCAUUAAAUAUGAAGCAAUAAAUGCUUUUUAAUUUUUUUAAAUUUUAUUUAUAAUAAUUAUGUUUCUCUAAUAUUCUUUAAAUUAACUUAAUGUUAUGGAUUGAUUUACCCAUCUGUAAUUCAACAGUUUUUUAAAUAUUAUAAUAUACAAAUUAAAUUUUAUAAUUACAAAUGCUUUAUACAAUAAAUCCAAAUGUUUUAAUUUAGAAAUAUAAUUCUAAAAAAUGUUGAAAAUAGCAAUUUUUAAAUAAAUAAUGUAUUUAUUAUUAAAAAAAUAUUUUUAAUAUUAUAGUAUUUAUUUAAUUUAAUAAAAAUAAAUAUUUUUAAAUAUCAAAAACUUAAUAAUUGAAAUUUAUUACGCAAGUGCAUGUAUCAAUCAAGUAAUAAAGUGAUAAAAAUAGGGACAAAACCAGGAAAUUACAUUAGGAGGGCCGAAAUUAAAUUUUAAUUUUAAUAGCCUAUAUCUUUAUAAUUUUUAAAAGAUUAAAUCAAAUUUUUAUUAUUUUAGGGGGACCAAAGUGCGAUUUUACCUUUACCAAUUUAAAAUUUUAAAAUUUCUAAAGGGCCUAAAUGAAUAUUUUUCCAUUUUAGGGGCUAGGUGUAACACCCUAAACCCGGCCUAGAUGGAAAGACCAAGUCUAGAAUGUCAAAUGAACUUACCAGAAAAUAGAUACACUUAAAGUCGGUUUAACUAAUACGUAAAUAAGUCUUAAAAUCAUUAACCACUCAACAUAACACAAUCUUAAAACUCAAAGUCGGAAAACAAUAACAAUUUAAAACACACACACACACAUAUUGAUACAGAUGCAGUUAUCCUACCCCCAUCCGCUACGCACUAUCUCCGAUCAUCCCAACACACCAAUAGGUAUAUAAUACCCCUCCAGCCAUACAUACCUUAUAGUGUCGGCACGACACAUUGUAAUGUUUACAGUCUCACUGCUAGAUCAGAUAUAAUUCUAGGUGGUUUGACCACCAAAUUAGUAUGGAACACUUCCUUCAAUCCAUAAUUCCCACCCCAUGCAAAUGCAGAGAACAAAUGACCAAUAUUUAUGUAUUGUUAUGCAGAUACAAAUCAUACAGUUUCAAUAUAUCAAAGGGUUGAAAUUCUUACGAAUUGUCUCAUACGGUUAUGUAAAACCAAUUUAUAAUCAUAAUAAAGUAGAUCAUAAAGUCCAGUUUAGUUCAUACACAUCCUAUAGACGACUUACACUCGCCUCGCACAACAAUUAUAGCAUUAACAAAAAUUUGGCGAUUCUAGCUCACAUGCCCAUGUGGAUGCCCGUAUGACUCCACACGGCCUGGCACACGACGAUUCUGAGAUUGGUAUUAACAGAGAAGUGCAAAAAUAAUAAUAUUUCUAAACGCAGGAUCAAAGACUCAAACACCAGACCAUAAUGUAUACAGAUUCUUUAUCAUCAAACCAACAGGUUCAUUCUUGAGAUGUCAAUGCAUGAAAUUUAACUUAUGUGACACAUGUAAGUCAAAAGUUCAAUUAUAAUACGCAAAACUUCAAAAAAAAAAAUGUGACUUGAACCUCCAAUCUCAAACACAUAAACAAAGUACUUAAACACAGAUACAGAGACUUAAUUAUUGAUACUACCUAAUAGGAAAACCCACAUUUUUAGGGCGUUACACUGGGGCCCUACCAACCCCCUCUAGAUACGCCACUGGAUAAGAAGAUAUCGAUCCCACAAGUACCAAAUUCUAAGAUGUUAAGUAACAAAUAUUUAGUUUUAUCUAAUUCAAAUUAAUAAAAUAAAAUUUGAUUAGUAGAAAAAUUAAACUAAACAAAUUAUGGACUUGAAACUCUAACUUCUCCUAAUCUAGAUUCAAUCUAUGUAAGUCCUAACCCAUAAUUCAAUGAUAUUAAUUAGACUCUUCCUGUAUCUAGUUAAGUUAAUCUCCUUUCCCAUUAACUGUAUUCCCAUACUAGGCAAGUUAAGUGAAAUCACUAAGAACAAACUUAUUAGAUUGAUUAGGGAAUCAUGUAUAUUUAUAUCUUAAUCACAGAUUAACUCAAUUAAUCUUGAUUUAAUUAGCCUAAAUCUUAACCUUAAUUUUCUCUUCCAUGACAAAUCAAGAUUAUUGAAUUAAUGUAACUUGGUGAUUAGACAAGUAGAUUAAAUAAGCAUAGGACUGAAUAAAUAAUUAAUAAGGAUCGAGCAAUUAAAGAGAAAAUUUAAUUAAUUAACUAAGAAAUAAGAUUCAUUAUCUUUCUAAAAAAAAUUAAAGUUUAAUUCAUAAUAAGUUGAAAAAACAACACAAAAAAUUUAGAACAAACUUGCAUCAAUAAAUUCAGAUAAUUUAUAAAAUGCAUAUAUCAAAUCCAUUGCCAUUUCCUUAAUUCAAUUAGAGAAUAUCAAGAUUUAUUACAUUGUUUGUAAAUUAAAUCAGUAAUAUAAAGUUGAGACUUACCUAAAUCAAAUCGAAAUUCAAUGAUAAAUUAAAUUAAAGAUAAAAGAUUAAACAUAUAAAGUAUGGAACCACCUAAUCAUAAAUUUUGGAAAUAAAGGUGAUCUUAAAAAAUUAUUCCUAAAAAAAAUUCAAUUCCUGCACAUGAAACAUGACUUGACUGGAUUCAACUUUAUUUCCUUUUCAUUAUUUAUUAUAUUUAAUAUUAAUAAAAAUUAAAUAUUUUUUUUUUCUUUUUUACUUUUGGCCUUUUUCUUUUCUCUCUUGCAUGUGGUGACCAGUUUAAUGGGUUAAAAGUUAUCUAAAAAUUUUAUUACAAUUUUCUCAAAAAUCCAAUGCCACACGAUGAAUCUUUUUGUAGACGCCACUUGUGAUUGUCUUUUUGGUUUUAGUUUUUAAAAUUAAAAGUAAUAGAUAUUUUAGAUGCCAAUGAUGAUGAGGUGAGAUAUUACUUAUGACAAUAUAGCAUAUUUGAUGAUUAAUUAUUUAUUUUAAUUACGAUCAAGAAAAAAAUAUUUUAAGUGUUAAAUUGAAAAAAAAUUAAAAGUUAAAAUUAUAUUUAAAUUUUAAUUGAAUAUUAAUUUUGAUUUAAUGCAGUUAUAAAUAUGAAUUUUGAUUUAAUUUUGAUACAUGUGUUAAUUUUCAUUGAAUAAUCCAUUUGAUAGCAAAAAUAAAAAGUUGCCUUAAAAUAUUUUCCAAAUUUGCAGCUGUUUGAAAGCAAUGGAAAUAGGGCUGUCAUCCCGUAAGACAACUUACCCCAAAUUCUUUUGGUAAGUCAUGUUACGGUACCUAAACCCCAAAUGUUUAUUCCCACAACAAUUGCUCUCUCCUAUUCAAACAAUUCUAUGAAUGGAAUUUGGGAAUAAUUGUAUCCAGAAAAUGAACAAAUUACAUGGACAAAGAUGAUGAAUUUUAGAAUACAUGUUACUCUUUGUGUUAUUUUGUUUGCAUAUGAAUUUAGAGCAACAUGUGUCCUUUUUUUUCUCAAUCCCUGUGUUACUGAAUUCAUUUGUUUUUUAGACGUCAUUCAUUUUCUUUUCAUUAUACCUCUUGGGGUCGGUCUUCUUUGACUCUUGUUCAAAGUUCCAACAUUGAGUUCUACUUGUUGAAUGUUGCAAAAAAAAUUUUUAACUUUUGAUUAAUUAUACUCAUUCAUUUAUAGUUAUUGGAACACUAUAAAUAUUUAGAAAUGUUCUAACAAUCUCCCCCCAUUUUCAAAAUAUUUUAGAUUUUGAUAUUCUUAAAAAUCAAUUUGCAUAAAUGAAUGUGUCUUACGAUUGAAUCUUCACUUAGUGAAAACAUGUUAAAGUUAAUCGAAAUUGCAUAGUAGACUAAACUUUGAACCAGCUAUUCCAUGUCUCACACAAUGAUUUCAACAUCAGUCAAUGCAUAGUAUCUAGGGACACAUUAUGGCUAUGUGUUUGUGUCCUCUUUUCAUAACUGCUGUCAGAGUCAAGCCCUUGAACUCCUAGAAAUGGCCAUACUUCCACUCACAUAGGUAGAUUCCAUCAAGAGUGUUCUCGUAAUUAUAACACUAUAACAUAUUUAUGUUAUGGGUCCAUUAAGAGUACAUUACUCACCCUUCCCUUAUCAUUACGAGUACCUAGCACUUUUAUCUUAGGAUGAAUUUAUUUAUAGUGUUAACAGUCACAUUGUAACACCCCAAAUCUGGUCUAGACGUUAUAGUUGAAUCUGGAAAUGUUACAAAGGAGAAUUGUAAAGUCACCCUUGUUGUAAUGAAAAUAUCGUAUAAUUUGUUAUUAAAAGAAUCCACUUUUUAGGAAAACAUUUUAUUAUACACAUCAUGAAACCAUCAAUUGUUUGCCCUUUUAAGUAAAACUAUAAUUUACAACAGAAAAUGAUGUUCGUUAAGUUAUAAAAACUGAGUUGGUGUUCUCAAAAACAUUUGUUUUCGUAAAUUGUUUUAAUAAGCGUCGCAGGAAACUUAAACAAAAAAUCAACGACCAACAACCAAACCAAAAAUUCUAAAGAGUCCCAUAUUUACAAAACUCUCAAAAAUAAUUCAGGAAUUUAAAUAAAUUUUUAAAUAAAUGAUAACACUAUAGAAUAACGUAUUUUUAUGUAUUAAUUAUGUAUUUAUUCUGAGUAUGAUCCUGCUAAUUUGAGUUAUUUAUGAUCUUUUAUUUCAUGGGGACUAAAUUUGAGGCAAAAGCAAAAUUAAGGGCCAAAAGCGUGAAUUUAAAGAUAAAAUGGGCCAAUGUGCAACACAAGGAAAAGUUGGUGCUAAAAGUGCAAGCAUAAAGGACACAAGGGUUGAAAUGUAAAAAGAAGAGAUUUUAUUCUAUCAGGCUCUAUUUUAAUUAUAUUAGGAUAAUUAAUAUUAAGAUAAUUAUUAAGGAUUAUUUAAUUUAGGAUUUUAUUUAAUUUAUAUUUAUUUAUCUUCAAUUAAAUGUAUUUAUCUUUUGAGAGUUAAGUAGGAUUAGACUAUCUCCCCUAGCACUAUGAAUAGGGGGUGAAGUGACUCAAAAGAGAUCCAUCUUUUUCUGUAAACACUCUCUCCCCAAAAGUCUAGGCUUUUGUUCUUCUCAUAUUUCCUUUCAAUUAAAUCUCCAUUUUUAUUAUAUAUUUUUUUUCCACCACAACCAUGAGCCACUAAACCCAUCUAGCCAAAAGUUGUCGAUAUUCCCCAAAAAGGGUUCUUGAGGCUUAGAGUCUGUACUUAGCCUCCUUGCUGAGUAUUAAUCGUUUCUCCGUACUACGGGGUUGAUGCUUCCAUCCAUAUCCCUUAAGAAGUAAACUUUUCAACAUAUGCAAAGGCGGUCUCUUUGUAUGUUUUGGGAAGGUUGCACAGUCAGUUCAUUAGUUUAUUGCAUCUGAGGUUGGCAAGCCCAAGAGACAAAAUGCUGUGAGAUUCGCCAUUGAGAAACAUUGAUCUAGCAUAAGAUGAUCCCACAGAAACGAUUGUUGGCUGAAGUCAGGUUCCACUAAAUCAUAAGUCUAAAUCCUUGGAGCUGGUGGUCGUAGGCAUCCUCUUCCAUUAUAACUGGCUUAUUUGGUUUGGAAAGGAUCAUCUAAAAGCCAAGGAUUGAACCCAAGGCGGAACGAGACAAUUGGAGGUUGGAACCUCCCAUAAGAAUUUCCUUUCUCUCAACUCUAUUUUUAAUUUCUCAAAUUUUUUAUUUAAUAUUCUUAAUUUUGUUUUUAUUUUAUUUUUCGUUUCUACAUCCAAACCUUUAAUUCUGUUAUUUUUUUAUUUUUUUCCAGGAACGCAGGUUUUCUUGGGAAAGAUUCUACUUGUGAUUUCACGGAACAAGAUAUUGUACAAAUCUAGUCCCUGAGGAUUUGACCCUACUUCCCUUUUACUAUUAUUUUUCAUUAUUUAUUAGGGAUAGGAUAUUUUUUGUGCUUUCAACGACCGCAUCAAAUCUUGGCGCCGUUACCGGGAACUGACAACGUACUAAUCUUAUUUUUCUCUUAUGACCAGAUCUGCUCCAGGUACUCUUGUGUUCGAUUCAAAAAUUGAGAAGGCUGCUAGAGCCAAUCGCAAUGAGACAAAGUUAUAAAAAAAAGCAGUAAGCUGUGGUUAGAACUCAAAGUAACCAACUGACAGAAAUCAAAGCCGACAACGAAGCUGAGUCUAGGGUUAACAAAAACCCUACUCAAACACUUGAAAGUGAAAAAGUAGAAGUCAACUCACCAGAAGAAGUGCUUAACGCUAAGAUUAAUGAAAACUCGAAUCUAGCACACCAACCAAUGGCUCAAACGAUUCGGCAACUAGCCGAAGCUCCGACAGAACAACCGCCAUUGUGCAUCACGUAUCCUACUGUGGAUACUAAUUUUGAGUUGAAGUUAGGUUUAAUCCAGUUACUGCCAACUUUUCCUGGGUUGCAAAAUGAAAAUCCCCACAAGCAUCUGAAAGAGUUUCAUAUGUUUUGUCUUAGCAUGGAACCUCAAGGGGUAACUGAGGAUCAGAUUAAAUUGCGUGCUUUCCCUUUCUCCCUAGUAGAUUUCGCUAAGAAAUGAUUAUUUUAUUUACCCCUAGAUCUAUUGAUAACACUCUAGAAUAACAUAUUUUUAUGUAUUAAUUAUGUAUUUAUUCUGAGUAUGAUCCUGCUAAUUUGAGCUAUUUAUGAUCUUUUAUCUCAUAGGGACUAAAUUUGAGGCAAAAGUGAAAUUAAGGGCCAAAAGCGUGAAUUUAGAGAUAAAAUGGGCCAAUGUGCGACACAAGGAAAAAUUUGUGCCAAAAGUGCAAGCAUGGAGGACACAAGGGUUGAAAUGCAAAAAGAAGAGAUUUUAUUUUAUUAAACUCUAUUUUAAUUAUAUUAGGAUAAUUAAUAUUGAGAUAAUUAUUAAGGAUUAUUUUUAGGAUUUUAUUUUAUCUUUAUUUAUCUUCAAUUAAAUGUAUUUAUCUUUUAGGAAUUUAAGUAGAAUUAGAAUAUCUCCCCUAGCACUAUAAAUAGGGGGUGAAGUGACUCAAAAGGGUAUCAUCUUUUUCUUUUUCUGUAAACACUCUCUCCCCAAAAGUCUAGGCUUUUGUUCUUUUCAUAUUUCUUUUCAAUAAAAUCUUUAUUUUUAUUUUAUUUAUUUUCUUUUCUACCACAACCAUGAGCCACUAAACCCAUCUAGCCGAAGGUUUUCAAAAAUCCCCAAAAAGGUUCUUGAGGCUUAGAAUUCGUACUUAGCCUUCUUGCUGAGUAUUCAUCGUUUCUCCGCACUACGGGGCUAACGCUUCCGUCCAAGUCCCUUAAGAAGUAAGUUUUUCAACAUAUGCAAAGGCGGCCGCUUUGUAUGUUUUGAGAAGGUUGCACAGUCGGUUCGUUAGCUUACUGCGUCAGAGGUUGGCGAGCCCAAGAGACAAAAUGGCGUGGGAUUCGCCAUUGAGAAGCGUUGAUCUAGCAUAAGGCGAUCUCACAGAAGCGAUUGUUAGCUAGAGUCAGGUUCCAUCAAAUCGUAAGUCUAAAUCAUUGGAGCUGGUGGUCGUAGGCGUCCUCUUCCACUAUAACUGGCUUAUUUGGUUUGGGAAGGAUCAUCUAAAAGCCGAGGAUUGAACCCAAGGCGGAACGAGACAACUGGAGGCUGGAAUCUCCCAUAAGAAUUUUCUUUCUCUUAACUUUAUUUUAAUUUCUCGAAUUUUCAAUUCAAUAUUCUUAAUUCUGUUUUUAUUUUAUUUUUCGUUUCUAGAUCCAACAAUUUAAUUCUGCUAUUGUUUUUAUUUUUUUUCAGGAACGCAGGUUGUCUUGGGCAAGACUCUGCUUGGGAUAUCACGGAACAAGAUAUUUUGCAAGUCCAGUCCCUGAGGAUUUGACCCUACUUCCCUUUUACUAUUCUUUUCAUUAUUUAUUAGGGAUAGGAUAUUUUUGGUGCUUUCAACGACCGCAUCAAAUUUUGGUGCCGUUGCCGGGGACUGGCAACGUACUAAUCUUGUUUUUUGUUUCUUAUGACCAGAUCUGCUCCAGGUACUCUUGCGUUCGAUUUAGAAAUUCAGAAGACUGCUAGAGCCAAUCGCAAGGAGACAAAGUUACGAAAAAAGCAGUCAGCGGUGGUUGGAACUCAAAGUAAUCCACUGCCAGAAAUUGAAGUCGACGACGAAGCUGAGUCUAGGGUUAACGAAAAUCCUACUCGAACACUUGAAAGCGAAAAAGUAGAAGUCGACUCACCAGAAGAAGUGCUUAAUGCUAGGGUUAACGAAAACCCAAAUUUAGCACACGAACCAAUGGCUCAAACAAUUCGGCAACUGGCUGAAGCUCCAACAGAACAACCGCCAUUAUGCAUCGCGUAUCCUACUAUGGAUACUGAUUUUGAAUUGAAGUCAGGUUUAAUCCAGUUAUUGCCAACUUUUCGUGGGUUACAAAAUGAAAAUCCCCACAAGCAUCUGAAAGAAUUUCAUAUGGUUUGUCUUAGCAUGAAACCUCAGGGGGUAACUGAGGAUCAGAUUAAAUUGCGUGCUUUCCCUUUCUCCCUAGCAGAUUCCGCUAAGGAAUAGUUAUUUUAUUUACCCCCUGGAUCUAUUACAACUUGGGCUGAUCUAUCUCGUUUGUUUCUGAACAGGUUUUUUCCAGCGUCUCGAGCAGCUGAGCUAAGAAGAGAGAUCAUUGGAAUAAGGCAAAAAGAAGCUGAGUCCCUUUACGAUUAUUGGGAGCGAUUUAAGAAGUUGUGUGCAAGCUGCCCACAACAUGGUAUAACAGAGCAAUCUCUCCUCCAAUACUUUUACGAUGGUUUGAAGCCCAUGGAGAUGAAUAUGGUAGACGCUGCUAGUGGAGGAGCAUUGGUCAACAUGACUCCCCAACAAGCGAGAGACUUGAUCUCCACGAUGGCUGCAAAUUCUCAGCAGUUCCGAGCCAAUACUGAACCCCCUAGAAGGGUUCAUCAGCUAAGUAAUUCAACCUUAGAGGAUAAAGUUGAUAGACUUACUAAUAUGAUGAAUUCUCUUAUUGUAGAAAAAGCGAAGACAGCUCGAUUAUGCGGAAUAUGUGCUACACCUGAUCACACAACUGAUGCAUGUCCCAGUUUGUAUGAUGAUGCCACGGCCCAUCUGGAUGCUGUUGGAAAUUUCCCUGGGCCACCACAAAGGCAGUACGACCCCUACGCUAAUACCUACAACCCAGGAUGGAGGGACCACCCUAACUUAAGUUAUGGGGCAAAUCCACGAAAUAACCAGCCAUACCAAAAUCGAUUUUCACAACAGCUGCAAGGUUCAGGUAAUUUUCUAGAAACCAUGGUCAAUAAGUUAGCAGCUAAUGUUCUUGAUUUUCAGCAGCAAAAUCUUAAUUUCCAAAAAGAGAUGAAGGAUUUCCAACAGAAAACUGAGGCGUCCAUCAGAGAGUUGACCACAUCGAUCGAGAAAUUAACCUCUCAAGGGAAGCUGUCGUCAUAAAUAGAACCAAACCCUAGACAAAAUGCAAAUGCAGUGACGUUGAGAAGUGGAAAGGUACUGGAAUCGAUUCCUGACAGGAAUCUUGCCCAAGAAAUUACCUAGGAAAAAACUAAAAAAGACGAACAGGUCCGACCGAAGCCUCUAUUGCCUAAAAUUCAACCUCCAUUUCCAGAACGAUUCAACCAGUGUCGAAGAGGUAAAGAGGACAAAGAAAUCCUCGAAACAUUUAGGAAUGCCGAGAUCAAUAUUCCGCUGUUAGAUGCCAUCAAACAAAUACCACGGUAUGCUAAAUUUCUUAAAGAGCUUUGCACCAACAAGCGAAAAUUGACAGGUAAUGAAAUGGUGAAUGUUGGUGAGAAUGUAUCUGCAGUGUUACAGCGAAAAAUGUCGGGAAAAUGCAAGGAUAGGGGCAUGUUUACAAUACCAUGCAAAAUAGGCCAUCUGGGAAUUAAAAAGGCUAUGUGUGAUCUAGGGGCUUCUAUAAAUGUAAUGCCAUAUUCUGUUUAUGAAUCACUUAACGCAGGUUUUUUGACAAAAACAGGUGUUAUCAUUCAAUUGGCGGACAGGUCUGUUGUGCAUCCAGAAGGAGUCCUUGAGGAUGUUCUGGUAAAAGUUAACGAGUUUAUUUUCCCUGUAGAUUUUUAUGUGAUCAAAAUGGAUGAGGAUAGCACUCUUGGAUCUUCAGAUCUCCUGCUGGGUCGACCGUUCCUUAGUACAGCAAAUACUAAAAUUGAUGUUCGAAGUGGAACUCUCACGAUGGAGUUUGAUGGGGAGAUCGUAAAGUUUAAUGUCUACAACGCCAUUAGCCAUCCAAGCGAAAUAUUGAGCGUAAAUCGUAUCGACAUAAUUGACUCUUUGGUGGAAGAAAAUUUUGAGCCAAUUUAUGGAGAUAAUUCUGAACUUAAUGAAAUUAAAUUUGUUAAUGAGUUAUUAUCUCCAAAUACUAAAUUGUUACCUUUUGUUAUACAGGCACCAGAGUUGGAGUUAGAACCCAUAGAACAGGCAAGGAAAUUAGACAUCCAAGAGUUAGAAGAAAUUCGCAAUGAUGCCUACGAGAAUGAUCACAUUUAUAAAGACAAAACAGAGUUGUUUCACGAUAAUAGAAUAGCUCAGAAGCGUUUUUCGGUAGGAAAAAAAGUUUUACUUCAUAACUCUGUGCUAAAGUUAUUCCCAGGUAAGCUUCGAUCACGAUGGCAGAGACCUUUUAUUGUUACUGAAGUGUUCACACAUGGAGCAGUUGAAAUAGAGAGUGAAGAAUCUGGAAAGCGGUUCGUAGUCAAUGGCCAGCGGUUGAAGCCAUUUUAUGAGAAUUUUCAAGCCCACACGGUUAAGAAAAUCCAUUUGGAACCACCAUAGAACCAAUAACGGCGUCGAGCUAACGACGUUAAACAAGCGCUUGUUGGGAGGCAACCCAAUUUUUAUUUUUUUUAUUAUAUUUUUUCUUUAUUUUCUUUAUUACUUUAUUUUAUUUUACUUAUUUGGAUAUUAAUAAAUUUUUUCUUCUUUUGCUUAGAUAAAACAAAGCAAAAAAAAGAAGCAAACCGUUAAGCAACACUUAAAGCGCAUUGAGGCCUGACUUGAAACCUUUGGCCAGCAACUGACCAAGCUCAUUGCCAUCAUUUGUGAUCAUACGGGGAGUUUUUCUAAACUUUUCUACCUAUUUAUUUCUUUUCGUCCACAUUGAGGACAAUGUGCUUUCAGUAGGGGGAGGUACUCUUCGUUAUUACUAUCAUUUUCUGCUGUGAUUUUGGUUACUGUUGCUGUUGCUGUGAUUAUUUUUGGCUGGUGUUGCUGCUUGAGGCUUGAUUUUGUCCAUCUCCUGCCUCUUUUCAUGCCCAAGAUUUUUACCAAGAAUUGCCUACUGUUUGACCUACAAGCAUGAUUCUUGUUUUCUGAGAAAAUUACGAAUUUUUCAUAAUUGAUGCCAUCUCCACUGUUUUAUUUUUAUUAGAGUAAAAAUAAUUGUGAUUCAUAAAUUUAACUUUAUCUUGCUUUUCGUAAAAAAAUUUAUUAUUAAUGUCAUUUAAUGUUCCGUGGUUAUGAGUGCAACUUAAAAACGUGACUGACUGAGUAACCGGGGUAGGGUGCUUGGGUUGUCAUUCUAUUUCGCGUCAAAAGGUUGUGUGACGUGUUAGGUAAAACUCCGCUAACCGGAAUUAAUUUUUAAGAACAUGUUGGGCUGAGUAACCGGGGUGGGGUGCUUGGCUGUCAUCUCUCUUCGCGUCAAAAGGUUUGAUGUGUUCUUAAGAAAAUUAUAAUAAAUUAGGAGUUUGCUGGGCUGAGUAACCGGGGUGGGGUGCUUGGCUGUCAUCUCUCUUCGCGUCAAAAGGUUCAGUAUAUUCCUAAAGCAUAAAAAAAACAAAAACAAAAAAACAAAAAAAAAAAGAAAAAAAUAAUUUGGGGACUAAAAGAGGAAACAAAUAGGGUGUCUUGGUAGGUUUGGUAAAUUACCUAAUUUUCAUUAAAUAAUUCAAGUUGAUUCUAAUUUUUGUGUGUAUUAAUUGAAAAACUUUUUUUGUUUUACUUAAAGCAAGCUUAGGGUUCUCUUUAUUUUUCAUAUGCAUUUUUGACUGAUUUUUAUAAAACUUUGGAGUUGUAUUUCUUUUAUGGCAGAAUCUAACUUUCACAGUAGAUAGGAACCAUACUUGAGGGCAAUCAUGGGCUAAGUAGGGGGGAUUUGAUAACACUCUAGAAUAACGUAUUUUUAUGUAUUAAUUAUGUAUUUAUUCUGAGUAUGAUCCUGCUAAUUUGAGCUAUUUAUGAUCUUUUAUCUCAUAGGGACUAAAUUUGAGGCAAAAGUGAAAUUAAGGGCCAAAAGCGUGAAUUUAGAGAUAAAAUGGGCCAAUGUGCGACACAAGGAAAAAUUUGUGCCAAAAGUGCAAGCAUGGAGGACACAAGGGUUGAAAUGCAAAAAGAAGAGAUUUUAUUUUAUUAAACUCUAUUUUAAUUAUAUUAGGAUAAUUAAUAUUGAGAUAAUUAUUAAGGAUUAACUUUAGGAUUUUAUUUUAUCUUUAUUUAUCUUCAAUUAAAUGUAUUUAUCUUUUAGGAAUUUAAGUAGAAUUAGAAUAUCUCCCCUAGCACUAUAAAUAGGGGGUGAAGUGACUCAAAAGGGAUCAUCUUUUUCUUUUUCUGUAAACACUCUCUCCCCAAAAGUCUAGGCUUUUGUUCUUUUCAUAUUUCUUUUCAAUAAAAUCUUUAUUUUUAUUUUAUUUAUUUUCUUUUCUACCAUAACCAUGAGCCACUAAACCCAUCUAGCCGAAGGUUGUCAAAAAUCCCCAAAAAGGUUCUUGAGGCUUAGAAUUCGUACUUAGCCUUCUUGCUGAGUAUUCAUCAUUUCUCCGCACUACGGGGCUGACGCUUCCGUCCAAGUCCCUUAAGAAGUAAGUUUUUCAACAUAUGCAAAGGCGGCCGCUUUGUAUGUUUUGAGAAGGUUGCACAGUCGGUUCGUUAGCUUACUGCGUCAGAGGUUGGCGAGCCCAAGAGACAAAAUGGCGUGGGAUUCGCCAUUGAGAAGCGUUGAUCUAGCAUAAGGCGAUCUCACAGAAGCGAUUGUUAGCUAGAGUCAGGUUCCAUCAAAUCGUAAGUCUAAAUCAUUGGAGCUGGUGGUCGUAGGCGUCCUCUUCCACUAUAACUGGCUUAUUUGGUUUGGGAAGGAUCAUCUAAAAGCCGAGGAUUGAACCCAAGGCGGAACGAGACAACUGGAGGCUGGAAUCUCCCAUAAGAAUUUUCUUUCUCUUAACUUUAUUUUAAUUUCUCGAAUUUUCAAUUCAAUAUUCUUAAUUCUGUUUUUAUUUUAUUUUUUGUUUCUAUAUCCAACAAUUUAAUUCUGCUAUUGUUUUUAUUUUUUUCAGGAACGCAGGUUGUCUUGGGCAAGACUCUGCCUGGGAUAUCACGGAACAAGAUAUUUUGCAAGUCCAGUCCCUGAGGAUUUGACCCUACUUCCCUUUUACUAUUCUUUUCAUUAUUUAUUAGGGAUAGGAUAUUUUUGGUGCUUUCAACGACCGCAUCAUCUAUUACAACUUGGGUUGAUCUAUCUUAUUUGUUUCUAAAUAGAUUUUUUUAAAUGUCUCAAGCAGCUGAGCUAAGAAGAGAGAUCGUUGGAAUAAGGCAAAAAGAAGCUGAGUCCCUUUACGAUUAUCGAGAGCAGUUUAAGAAGUUGUGUGCAAGUUGCCCACAACAUGGUAUAACAAAACAAUCUCUCCUCCAAUACUUUUACGAAGGUUUGAAGCCCAUCAAGAUGAAUAUGGUAGACGCCGCUAGUGGAGGAGCAUUGGUCAACAUGACUCCCCAACAAGCGAGAGACUUGAUCUUCACGAUGGCUGCAAAUUCUCAACAGAUUCGAGCCAAUACUAAACCUUCUAGAAGGGUUCACCAGCUAAGUAUUCAACCUUAGAGGAUAAAGUUGAUAGACUUACUAAUAUGAUGAACUCUCUUAUUGCAGAAAAAGCAAAGAUAACCCAGUUAUACGGAAUAUGUGUUACACCUGAUCAUGCAACUAAUAGAAGUCCCAGUUUGUAUAAUAAUACCAUGGCCCAUCUGGAUGCUAUGGGAAAUUUCCCUGGGCCGCCACAAAGGCGAUACGACCCCUACGCUAAUACCUACAACCCAGGGUGGAGGGACCAUCUUAACUUAAGUUAUGGGGAAAAUCCAUAAAAUAACCAACCAUACCAAAAUCAGUUUCCGCAACAGUCGCAAGGUUUAGGUAAUUUUCUAGAAACCAUGGUCAAUAAGUUAGAAGCUAAUGUUCUUAAUUUUCAACAGCAAACUCUUAAUUUCCAAAAAGAGACGAAGGAUUGCCAAUAAAAAACUGAGGCGUCCAUUAGAGAGUUGAUCACAUCAAUCGAGAAAUUGACCUCUCAAGGGAAGCUGCCAUCACAAACAGAACCAAACCCUAGACAAAAUGCAAAUGUAGUGACGUUGAGAAGUGGAAAGGUAUUGGAACUGAUUCCUAAUAGGAAUCUUGGCCAAGAAACUGCCCAGGAAAAAUCUGAGAAAGACAAACAGGUCCGACCGAAGCCUCCAUUGCAUAAAAUUCAACCUCUAUUUUCAGAACGAUUCAACCAGUGUCGAAGAGGUAAAGAGGACAAGGAAAUCCUCAAAACAUUUAGGAAUUCUAGAUCAACAUUCCGCUGUUAGACGCUAUCAAAUAAAUAUCGCAGUAUGCUAAAUUUCUUAAAGAGCUUUGCACCAACAAACUAAAAUUAACAGGUAAUGAAAGGGUGAAUGAUGGUGAGAAUGUAUCCUCAGUGUUACAGCGAAAAAUGUCGGCAAAAUGUAAGGAUAGGGGCAUGUUUGCAAUACCAUGCAAAAUAGGCCAUCUGGGAAUUAAGAAGGCUAUGUGUGAUCUAGGAUGUAAUGUCGUAUUUAAUGUAAUUUGGUCUUUAUAUUUUAGUUUUUAACGUAAUUUAGUCUUUAUAUUUUUAUAAUGUUAUCAAUUAGUUUAAAUAGUUAAUAUGGUUAACUUUUCUAUUAAAAUAUUACGUGGUUAUAUAUAAUUUGAAAGCAAUUUUUAAAUCCAAAAAGUAGGGGAUUAAAUUCUUAAAAAAUAAAAGUAGGAGGACUAAAUUUGAAAUGUAUGAAGUGUAUAUAGACAUAAAGCCAUGGUUGUUUGAACCAAGAAUUGACCGAGGUACUAGUCCAAAGAGAGGCAUUAGACCACUUGACUUGUGAAUCGAUACAAACAAAUUGAACCAGGUUAAAAAACUGAUUAUUAUUAUUAUUUUUAAUUUUUAUGAUUUUUAAUGAUUUAUUUAAUCAAACAAUACAAACUAAUAUCUGGUCAAUUCGAACCAAUUUUGAAAAUCUUACUUAGAAUAACUUUUACUCUUUAAAUUUUUAUUUUAUAAUUUAACACAAAUAAAAAUAACUAAAAGUGAACCAUGAGUAGAUGUAAGCAUGGGUCGUGCCGGGUUUAACUAAAAUUUUAGGCCCGUUUGCUAGGCCCAAAAAAUGGGCCUAAAAUUUUGCCCAAGCCUUACCCGGAUAAAAAUAUUAAACUUGGGCCCGACUCGGCCCGUCUCGCCCUAUUAAUUUUUAUAUUAAUUUUAUAUAAUUUUAAAAAGAUAUAAUACAUCAAAAAUGCUUAAAACAUCAAAAUAAAUAUUUUCCAACAAAUUGAAAACAAGUUUUAAAAAAUAUAUAUACUUAAAUAACACUAAUAUAAAUGCAACUUAACAAGCAAAUGUUUCUAAAAUAAUAACAAAAUUAACAAAUGUCUUUAAAAUAAUAACAAAAUUAACAAUAAAAUAAGUUUUAUACAAUAUCUAAACAAUAACAACAAAAUAGUAGCAACAUAAUAGUAAAAUGAUAGUAAAAUAGGGAGAAAAAAACAAGAAAAUAAUAUUAAAAAAAAGUAGAUUUUUUUUGUCCUUUAGUGGAUUCGGGUCGGGCUCGAAGCCAAAAAUACCUUACUCGAGGCCCGGCUUAUUUUUUUAAUGGGCCUUAUUUUUUAUCCAAACUCAUUUUUUGAGCCUAUAUUUUUAUCCAAACCCCCAUACAUUUCAACCGACCCGGCCCAUGAUCAGGUCUAACCAUGAGUGAACCAUACUAGCGUUAAAGAAAUAGGAGAUCCACAGUGGUACACGAGUUGCACAAAGGAAGGAACUACCAACUAGGGGUGGGCAUUCGAUUGAAUCAAAUCGAAUCGAAUCGAAAAUUUUCGAGUUAAUUGAGUUUUCGAAUCUCAUUUUAUCAUCCUAACUUUAUUUGAAGUUUUAUCGAAUCGAAUUGAGUGAGAUGAAAUUCGAAUCGAAUUGAAUCGAAUAUAUUUGUUCGAGUUAAAUUUUAAAAAAUAAAUUUAGUGUUGUUUAUUUUUAUGUAAUUUUUCAAAAAAUAAUUUUCUUUAAAGUUUUUAAACAUGAUCAUACAACAAAAAAUUGAAGUAAAUAAGUGAAUAAAUAAAAGCAACACAACAUCAACCCAAAUAAACAACAUGAUUCCAAAUAAACAACAAAAAUAAUACAACAAGAUUAUAAUAAAAAAACAUAAGUAAAAGUCCAAGUAAAUAGCAUGAGUCGAAAUAAACAAUUUAGGGUUUUUUGAGAAAAAUAAAUUUUAGGGUUUGAACUUUGAAUGGAAUGGAAACAGAGAGAAGAAGAAAAUAAAUGGGGGUUUUCAUGAUGGAAUUUGCUGGGGGUGAUCUGGGGGGAGAAAUUGGGAUUUGGGAAAUUAAAUCUUUAGGGCAUGGGCAAACGGGCUUGGGGAAGUAGGAAAAAAUAAAAUGUUUGGGGUUGGGAGAAAUUGGCAAUUAGGUUAAAUACUUGAAAGUAAUUAAGUAAAAGCCUAUUAAAACAUGGCUGUGUGUAAGCCUGUGUAGCUCCUAUGCCUUGCUUCAGUUUUCUGGUUUUCACUUUUUUUUCACUCCUUUUGCUCCUAAAUGCUCUUCUAAGUAUAAAAACUUGAAUUUAAAGGAUUAGGAGUAUAAAAUUCACUAUUAACAUCGAAUAAUCACCUAAAAAUGCAUUAAGAAUGAGAUUAAAACAUGUUACUUUUAGCAUUUAUUAGAAUUAUAAUGAUAUUUAUGAAAUUUUUAGUGUAGUAUUAGUUAUACUUUUUUUCAUAUUGGAAAGAAAUAUUUAAUUUUAUAUAGUGUGAUUUUUUUCUUUUAAUUUUUUUAUAGUUAAAUUGUUCAUUUUUAAAAAAAAUUAAAUUGAUUUGUUUGAUAAGAAAAAAAAUAUCCAAGAAGAAUUAACACUUUUUUACGUUAAAAGAAAGGCUGUUCGGAUUUAGAAAUUUCAUGCCCUUAGAGUAAAAUCCUAGAUCCGUCUCUGCUUCGAUAAAUCAUUCUAUCAUUGGAAUAUGGGAAUAAUUGUAUCUACAAAAUGAACAAAUUACAUGGACAAAGAUAAUAAAUUUUAGAAUACAUGUUCUUUGUAUUGUUUUGUUUGCAUAUGAAUUUAGAACAAUAAUCCAUGUAAAGCUUCAAACUUGAGUUUGUUAUUGAAUCAUUUGUUGUUUCGACCUUAUUCAUUUUCUUUUCAUUAUAUCUCUUGGGAUUGGUCUUCUUUUUGACUCUUGUUCAAAGUUCCAACAUAUCUCAUAAAGGAACGUGAGAUUGAGCUAUACUUGAUACAGGGGAAUUGUAGAGUAGCUAUACUUGAUACAGGGGAAUUGUAGAGUCGUUGCUUGCCAAUUUUAGAUUCCACAUUAAAAAUUCUUUUGGUCUUUGUUGAUAAGAAUUACCUACCCCUAUUGAAUUGGAAUUUUAAUGUGAACCAUUGUUUUAAUUUUUUCUUCCUCAUAUGACAUUCAAGUCUAUUUUGAAGUUCAUUGUUUUGCCUCUUAAUCCUUGUGUUCAAGUAAAUUUGUGUUAUUUACAAAUUUGUAGACAAAUUCAUGGUCGUUGCAUACAAUGACUUGUGUUAUUUAUGUUAUAUAUGCUUAUAGAUUUGUGUUAUUUGCAGAUUUGUAUGUGUUCAACAAAUUACCUUGACAUGUGUGCAUCAAGAGUGGUUGAUUUUGUUAGCUCGUUCAAACAAUCGAAAUAUUCAAGAGGAGGUGAAUUGGGCUUUAAAAACUCAUGAAAGCAAAAGAAUAAAGUAUGAAACAUUGAACACAAUAAUUUAGAGUAGUUCAACCCAAUUACCUACUCCACUACCUUGGCUUUCCACAAUUAAGGAUUUUCCAAAAUUUAUUAAUUUGAUGAACCUUUGAGGACAAGGUCUAUCUUUACAACUCACUUAAUAUUUCUACCCAAAUCUUUGUUAGUACAAAUCUCCUAUGAGGAAAAUCUCGAACACACGAACGGAACUCGAACAGAAAAAGAAGAAAUAGGAAAAAGCUCCAAGGCGUGUAUCAAGUCACUAUCUUUAAGGUUGUAUUCGCCCCCACGUAUCUUCGGUGUGCAAACAAGUUCCAAGUAAAUUAACCUCUGGGAUACAAUGAAGCCAAUGACUAUUUGCAUUUUGCAUUGACAAAGAAUAGCCCACUACACACUGAGCAAUGUAUGACAAGAAACUCAAUUUCUAUAAAGGAUUUCUGCAGUAAUACUUUAUAGAAUAAUCUAAUAAUAUUAGAAAAUGAAGGAAGGAAAAAAAAGAAUAUUACAAUUUAUUGGUAUAAUUUCCAAAUGAAAUCACAUUCCUAUUUAUAGGAAUUUUCAUGUCUCUUCAUAGAGACAUAUUUCAUCAAUAAGUGUCUUUCUGAAUAAUAAUAUCUUUAAAAACACAUAAUUAUUCAUUUAAUAUUAUAACUAUUCAAAUAAUAUUAUUUAAAUAGUUAUAAUUCUUUUUCAAAAAUCAAAUAAUAUAAUCUUUUGAUUAGUUACACCCAUUCAUUUAUAGUUAUUGGAACACUAUAAAUAUUUGAAAAUGUUCCAAUAAUCUCUCCCCAUUUUCAAAUUAUUUAGAUUUUGAUAUUCUUGGAAAUCAAUUUACAUAAAUGAAGGUAUCUUAUGAUUGAACCUUCUCUUAGUGAAAACACGUUAACGUUAAUCAAAAUUUCUUGUUAGACUAAGCUUUGAACCAACUAUUGCAUUUGAUUAAUCAAACACAUCCCAUACAAUGAUUUCAACAUCAGUCAAUGCAUAGUAUCUAAAGACACUAUUAUGGCCAUGUGUCUAUGUCCUCUUUUCAUAAGUGCUGUCAGAGCCAAGCGAUUGAGCUCCUAGAAGCGACCACACUUCCACUCAAAUAGGUAGAUCCCGUCAAGAAUGUUUAUGUAAUUAGAACACUCUAACAUAUUUAUGUUAUGGGUCCAUUAAGAGUACAUUAGUCAUACUUCCCUUAUCAUUACAGGUAUUUAGCACUUUAAUCUAAGGAUGGAUUUAUUUAUAGUGCUAACUGUCACAUACUAAUGAUGUUCUUUGUCUCAUUGAACUCAAGACUUGACAUUAUACCAAGUAUUGAGUCGAGUUUCCAUCAUGGAUGUCUCUAAUUAAUGGGCUUGAGUCCCAUCCCUUUUAAGGUCCUUUUUACUACAUCUCUAGUAAAACUUUUUGUCAAAGGAUCCGCUAAAUUUUCACUUGACCUUACAUAAUUAAUAGUGACCACUCCAUCAGAGAUUAAUUGUCAGACAUAACUAUGUCUUAAUCCAAUGUGUCUAGACUUUCCAUUAUAUACUUGACUAUAUGCCUUUGCUAAAGUAGCCUCACUAUCACAACGGAUAGAAAUAGGUGAAAUUGGCUUAGGCCAUAAAGGUACAUCAUAAAGCAAAUUUCUUAAUCAUUCUGCUUCUUUAGAUGCAGUAGCUAAUGCAAUAAAUUCUGCUGCCAUGGUGGAAUCAGUAAUACAUGUUUGUUUCUUGGAACCCCAAGAAAUGGCUCUUCCACCAAAAAUGAAGAUCCAUCCACUAGUAGAUAUAUGAUCAGUAAGAAAGUAGGUAUCCUUGAUAUAGUAAAAUGAGGAAAUAAAGUGACAAAAAGGGAAAUUUUGAAUUAUGGUAACAUUGGGAAGUAUAUUAUGACAUAUUAGUUCAAGAAAGGAUUAAAUCGUAAAAGUGAGAAAAGUUUUGUUGUUCAAGGGUAAAUAAUCAAAAAUUGAAGGGUUAAAGUGUAAAUAUGAAAAGUUGAAGGACCAAUGGUAUAAAUAUUUUAAGGGUGGAAUGAUCUAGAAACUAAGGAAAAUGGAUGGAUUAGGACUAAAUUGAAAAAGGUGAAGAAUUUUGAGGGACUAAAUCGUAAUUUUACCAAAUUAAGUGAUGACUCAAGGAUGGAAUUUUAAAAGAUCAUAAAGGGCAAAAUGGUCAAUUAGAAUAUAGAGAAAUCUAGAAGAUAAUGAUGAUGUUGGAGAUAUUUUAGAUUAAAUAAAUAAAUAAAUAUUAGUUUAUUAGUAUUUUAAUUCAAUUUUUAAAUGAUAUUUUAUUAUUUUAUUAUUAUUUUAUUUAGUAUAUAUACAUAUGUGUGGAAAGAAAGAAAAAAAAAAGCCACUAUCCCAUCAUUUUUCCAUGCAUCAACAUGAGAAGAAGAGAGAAAGAAAGGAAGUCUUACUUUCUUUACAAUUUGGUCCUUCCACAAAAAAUUCACCAUUUUCAUCUAGAAAUCAAAAGAAUUUCCAUAUAUCCAUCAAGAGAGAAAGAUAACAAUGAGACUAUGGGGAACUAGAAUAUCAAGUUGGAUUCAAGAAAUAGAAGCUGGAGGAGAGAGAAAAUCAAGUUAAAGAUUGAAAUCAAUAUGACAAGGUAAGAACAUCAAGAUUUUAAUAUAUUUUUAAGUUUGAUAUUAUUGAAAAAAUAUGGAAAUGAUGUUAAUGUAAAGUUUUCGUAUAUAUGGUCCUAUGUUCUUGAUAUGUUAGUGAAGAAAAAUAAGAGAAAGUGAUGAGAAAUAGUGUAGAGAAAGAAAAUAAGGGUGUUAUAAACAUGGUAAUAAACAUUUUGCACUAAAAUAGUUUUGGACAGGAACAGUAGACUCAAUUUGAAAUAUCACUAUAAAUUAUGAAAAUCGAACUAGAGUAUGAAUAAAAUAUGAAAUUAAAUCUUAUUGAGUCUAGUUUCUCAUAAAAGAAAUGGUGUAAGUAAUGGAAUUGUAAAUUAUGAGAUAUAAUAAAUUUUGUCAGACAAGGUCAGAAUGAAUUCGGGUUCCCCUGUUUUGAAUUUCAAAAAUCAUUAAAAAUUGUAAAAAAGUAAUUAUUGGUUAUAAUUUAUAUUUUUAAAAUCCUAAAUGAGUCUAUUUUCAAUAUAAACAAACAGGGACAUCAUCCGAAUUCUGUACAAAGAGAUAAUUAAUUUUUAGUGAAGAAGGGUUGGAACUAUCAGAGAGCAGAAUAGAGGUGAAUUUAAAGAAUAAACUGUACUUAUUGGCUUAACCAAAAAUUCUAAAAAUUUUAUAGUAAGAAGAUAUGUGAGUCUAGUUUCAGGAAAAAUUUUCAUAUCUUAAUUCGGUGUCCCAUAGCUCAAGAUAAAAAUAAUUUAGUGACAUGACUCGAGUGGACAGCUUUGAAUGAAUAUAUAAUUAAAUGGUGGAAUUAUAGAUAAUGUUACAUAUAGGCAUAUUAUACAUUAAGGAUGUGGAAUGGAGAGGAGGAGGAGGAGGAAAAAUAUAUGAUUAUUCAACCAGCAUGAGUUUUCAUUAAAAAUGGCUAAUUUGCAUGUUUUAGGUUCAGGGACUAAAUUGAAUAAAAGUAAUAUUUUAAGGGUAAAUUUGUAAAAAUGUCAAAAAGUGACCAAAUUGCAUGAAAUGAAUUGUUUUAUUAUUUAAAUUAAUAAAUUGAAUGAAAUAGUAAUCUAUAUCAAGAUUGGAUGGAAAUUCAAGGGAAAUAGAAAAUUACCAAAAUGUCCCUAAAUUUUGGUAUUUCUACAAUUUAGCUUGGUAAGUUUGUGUAACUUGAAUUAUAUUCUUAGAUGAUUGAAAUAUAUAUAUUGGAUUGAGAAACUGAAUUGAAUUGUGAACAUGAGAAAUUAUGAAUUUAAUGAAAUAGAAAUGAAGCUUUGAAUUACAUGAGUAAAUAUAGGGUCUUGUAGGCCCUAUUUGUUACGAAUAUAAUAUUUUGAGGAUAUGUUGUAAAGAAUUAUAAAAGCACGUUAAUAAUUUAAAAGUAUUAAUUCGGAUGAAAUUUUGUAACUCGGUUUAAUACGUAUGCAAAUGUAUGUCUUCUAGUAAUGCCUCGUACCCUAUUUUGGCGUCGAAUACGGGUAAGGGGUGUUACAAUGUGACAUCGCCAGAUUCGGUCAUAACGUUUAGACCGGGUUUGGGGUGUUACAUGAUCUUCCAAACUUGUAAUCCAACUAGCAUCCGAAUACCCUUCUAAAACUGGAGGAUAUCCACUAUAACACAAUCCAUAGUUAAUAGUUCUAUUUAAGCACCUAAGUACUCUAUUCAAUUGCCAAUGCAAACUACUUGGAUUACUUGUGUACCUACUCAAUUUCCCAACAGCAUAUGCAAUUUCUAGUCUUGUACAAGUCAUUAUGUACAUAAGACAACCAAUUAGACUUGCAUAUUUUAAUUGAUCAAUUUUCCUACCAGUAUUAGAUACUAAUUUUAUUUGAGGAUCCAUGGGUGUAGAUGCUGGUAUACAGUUGAAAAUAUCAAACUUUUUAAGCACAUUUUCAAUGUAACGUGAUUGUGAUAAAGCUAUAGUGCUUUCAUCUCAGGUUAUAUUAAUCUCAAGAAUAACAUCUACUACACCCAUACCUUCAUAGCAAAGUUGUUCGACAAGAAUUUCUUUGUGUUUUCUAUUUGUUCCAAAUCCGUGCCAAAAAUGAGCAUGUCAUCUACAUAUAAGCAAAUUAUGACACAUUUUCCAUUUUCAAAAUUGCUAUAUAUGCACUCAUCGGAUUCAUUUAUUUUAUAGCCAUUAGCUAAAACAACAUUGUCAAACUUUUGGUGCCAUUAUUUUGGUGCUUGUUUAAGUCCAAAUAAAGAUUUAACAAGCUUACAUAGCUUAUGCUCUUGUCUUGGAAUAACAAAUCCUUCCGGUUGUUCCAUGCAUACUUCAUCUUCCAAAUCACCAUUUAAAAAUACAGUUUUAACAUCCAUUUGAUGAACAACCAAAUUAUAUAUAAAGGUAAGUGAUAUUAAGAGUCUAAUUGUAGCAAUCCUUGCUACUGGAGCAAAGGUAUCAAAGUAAUUAAUACCUUGUUUUUGUGUAAAACCUUUGGCUACCAACCUUGCUUUAAAUUCAUCAAUGAUUCCAUCAACCUUCAUUUUCUUUUUGAAGAUCCAUUUACAACCUAUUGGUUUGGAACUCGGUGGAAGAUCAACUAAGAUCCAAGUUUAAUUUCCUAUUAUUGAAUCCAUCUCAUCAUUUAUUGCUUCUUUCCAAAAGGCAGAGUCUUGAGAUUUCAUUGCCUCUUCAAAUGUAAUAGGACCACAUUCCGUAUUAUAACAAUAAGGUUUCUUAUUGCAUAUACUUUCGCCCUUUCCUUAUACAAGAAACAUAAUGAAAUCUGGUCCAAAAUCUUUGACCUUUUUAAUCCCCUUACUUCUUCUUAAUUCUUGACAAGAUUCAUCAUUAUUAUCAAUUUGUUCCAAUGGAAUCUCAUUCUCAUUUGAAGAAUGAAUCACAUUGUUGUGGCUAUAAUUAUCUUGGUAUAAAAUUAAAUCUAUUUUCAUCAAAAAUAGCACCUCUUGAUUCAAUAACAGUAUUAAUUGAAAUUGAAUCAUUUGGUUCAAUUACCAUGAACCUAUAUGCCUUGUUAUUAUGUGUAUAUCCUAUAAAUAUGCAUUCAAUUCCACUUUCAGCUAACUUUUUUACGUUCGGGUGUUAGAAUUUUGAUAAUAGUUCUACAACCCCAAACCUUCAAAUAAUUAAAGUUUGGUUUCCUUUUCUUCCAUUGUUCAUAAGGGGUUAUUUAAGUUUCCUUAUUAGGAACUCUAUUCAAUAUAUGACAAGCUGUUAGAACAACUUCUCCCCAAAAACCUUGUCCAAGACCUUAAUAUGAUAACGAUGAAUUUACCAUUUCAGUCAACACUCUAUUUUUCCUUUCAGCUACACCAUUUUGUUGUGGUGUGUAAGGGGCUGAAACUUGAUGGACAAUUCCAAUGGAUUCAAAAUAACUUGGAUUAUAGUAUUCUCCACCUCUAUCCGAUCUUAAGCACUUGAUAAAUGAUUCACACUGAAGUUCAACUUCAAAUUUAUAAACUUUAAAUUUAUCAAGCACUUCAUCUUUUAAAUGCAAUAAAUAUACAUAACAAUAUCUAGAACAAUCAUUAAUAAAAGUAACAAAAUAUUUCUUUCCACCUAAUAUAGGAGUAUUAUGCAUGUCACAUAAAUCACUAUGUAUCAAACCAAGCAAUUUUGUUUUCCUUUUAACCUUAGGGAAAGGUUUCUUGUAAUUUUAGUCAACAUACAUGUAUUGCAUUGUUCAAUAUUAUUAUUAAAAACAAGAAUUGAAUCUAACUUAUACAUGUCAUUCAUUUUUCUAUAAUUCAAAUGACCUAAUCUAUAAUGCCACAAACAAAAAGAUCCAACCAUAUAAGCAGAAAUAGUAUUUUUAUUUUUAUUAAUAAUAUUGAGUUUGAACAUACUCUCAUACAUAUACCCUUUCCUUACAAAAACUCCUCCCUUAGACAAAAUAAACUUAUCUACCUCAAAAACAAGUUUGAAGCCAAACUUAUUCAACAAACUUCUAGACACUAAAUUCUUCCUAACUUCUGGUACAUAAUAUAAAUCAUUUAAGGUUAAAAACUUUCCAGAAGUGAAUUGUAGUUUAACAGACCCUUUGCCUUUGAUUGCUGCGGUGGAAGAAUUUUCCAUGUACAAGAUGUCAUUUUCACAUUGUGUGAACUUUGUGAACAUGCUUUUGUCUUUGCACACAUGUUUGGCUGCUCCGAUAUCAAUCCACCAUGUAUUAUCAUCUUGUGCCAUAUUAAUUUCAGAUAUCAUUGCAAUGAACUUUUCGUUAUUAUCAGCCUUAGAAGAUGAUUUCUUCUUUAAAAAUUGACAUUCAUUCUUGAAAUGUCCCGACUUACCAUAAUGAUAGCAUGAGCCCUUUUGUUUCUUUUUGAACUUAGGUUCUCUAUCAGUUUGUUUGAACUUAUUCUUGAAUGGUUUAGUAGUUUGUACUUCCUCUGUAACAUGCACUUUGGCAUUUUCAGAAUUUAGGUUCUAGUAUUGCUUUCGAUUUUCUUCUUCAAUACGAAGAUGAUUUGCCAAAGACUCAAGAGAUAUUUCCUCUUUCUUAUGUUUUAGACUUCUUUUAAAGUCUUUCCAAGAUUGAGGAAGUUUGUCUAUUAUGGAGGAUACAACAGUCAUUUCAUCCAUUUUCAUAUCAUAUUGCUUGAAUUGAUUCAGCAUUUUUUCAAUAUCACGGAUUUGUUCCAUAACAAAAUGACCAUCAACCAUUUGAUAAUUAUUGAAACGACUGGCAAGAAAUUUCUUACUUGUAACAUCUUCGAUCAUGUAUCUUGUCUCCAAUUUGUCCCAUAAUUCUUUAGCCGUGACCUCGUUUUGGUAAGUGUCGAACAAACCAUCAGAUGAACCAUUCAAUAUGUGGCCCAUGCACAUGUAAUCAGCAUUGUCCCAUUUUUGACUUUCUCGGGUUGCUGCAACAGAUUCGUUAUCAUUCUCUUCAGGUCUUGGAGUAUCCAAAACACAAACAAUCUUCAAAGUUGAUAAUAAGAAGUGCAUCUUUUCUGCCAUCGUCGAAAAUUACCACCAUCAAACCUAUCAAGUUUGACAAAGCUGGAAGCCAACUCCCUUAGUGUUCCACUUUCAUAUGUUGUGGUAGUCAUCAUGAAAUAUAACCUAAAAUUGUUAGUACAAAUCUCUGGUGAGGAAAAUCUCGAACACACGAACGGAACUUGAGCAGAAAAAGAAGAAAUAGGACAAAGCUUCAAUGCGUGUAUCAAGUCACAAUCUUUAAGGUUAUAUUCUCCCCCACCUAUCUUCGAUGUGCAAAUGAGUUCCAAGCAAAUUAACCUUGAGGAUCAAAUGAAGCCAAUGACUAUUUGCAUUUUGCACUGACGAAAGUGGCCCACUACACACUGGGCAAUGUAUGACAAGAAACUCAAUUUCUAUAAAGGAUUUCUGCAGUAAUACCUUAUAAAAUUAUCUAAUAAUAUUAAAAAAUGAAGGAAGGAAAGAAAAAAUAUUAGAAUUUGUUGGUAUGAUUUCCAAAUGAAAUAUUAUUCCUAUUUAUAGGAAUUUUCAUGUCUCUUCAUAGAGACAUCUUUCGUCAAUAGGUGUCUUUAUGAAUAAUAAUGUCUUUAAAAUAAACACAUAAUUAUUCAUUUAAUAUUAUAACUAUUUAAAUAAUAUUAUUUAAAUAGUUAUAAUUCUUUUUCAAAAAUCAAAUAAUAUAAUCUUUUGAUUAAUUACACCCAUUCAUUUAUAGUUAUUGGAACAUUAUAAAUAUUUGAAAAUGUUCCAACAAUCUUAAGAUACAAACCCUCUCAAAAGAGCAAAAAAAAAAAAAAGAGCAAACUAAGAAAUAUUCCUUACAAGAUUAGAAUGUGUGCCAAUUAAGCACUAAUACAAAGAAAAACAUUUGAGUUGAUGGAAAACAAUAAAUACUCACAAGUGUAUUCAAGAAAUAAUGAAGAAUUUUAAGUACAAAGGUUGAUACUUAAUGAUAAAUAUUGAUUUUUUUACUUUGAUAAAAAAAUUCCAUAAUGACAUCUUUGUAUCGAUACCAAGAAUAGGUAUCGAUAAAAAUGUCUAGAUAUCGAUAUUUAUUGAAAAUAUCGAUACUUGUUAUUUUUGCUCAAUGUUUCUGGACUUUGAAACUUAAAAACAAUUUUAUAAGUAAUAGAGAGCAGUUUUUUACUUGUUUAAAAUUUGUUCAAAGUAUUUUCUGAGUGUUCAAAGUGAUUCUCAAAGUGUUUCAAAAUUUUGACUUUAAACUUCAUUAAUUUUUAUUAAAAAAUAAUUUUUAUUCAAAAAUAUUAUAUUUAUUAUAUCAAAAUAUUUUAUGAAAGCUUGGUUUAUCAAGUUUACAUCAUGCCAAGAAAUUUGAAUCAUUUAGCUUUUGUUGUAUAAAUGACUUGGUUUUGGGAAUUUGAAACAAAAAUGUUGUUUUGGAAAAACAAAAUUAUAUUAACUCUAUGUUCAAAUUUGUAUAUAAAAAAAUAUGCUUAUAUAUAUACAUGUUAGAUUGUUUUGACAUGUGGCUGACUUGAUUAAAAAUAUAUAUACAACUUGUAAACAUAUAUUCCAAACAUACAUACAUACAUAUAGAUAGAUAUUUCAUUUGUAUAUCACAAUAAUCAUAACAAGUAAUUCUAUAGAUUGUUUGUGUUUGAUUGAAGAUGAAUAUUUCAUUGUAUAAUAGUUUUUGAAAUUAAUUAAUGAAAAGGAUUGUUCUUUUAGUUAUGAAAAUAUCUAUGUUUGGUUUAUUUCACCUAGAAUAAUUUUCAUAAAAUGUUUACAUAAAAUCAACUAAUUAUACUAAAAAAAUCACAUUUUUUAAAAAAUUAUACUAUUUUUCAACCAAUGCAACAUAUAAAUAUAAAUUAUGUUCCAUCGUCUAUUGAAAUAAUAUUACCAAAGUUCAAUCAAUGCAUCUAUGCUUUAGAUGCUAAAGUGUGGAAUCAAAAUAAAGAGUUAAAAGACUGGAAUAAAAUCUUGCAAAAAAAAAAAAACCAUUCUGGAACUGUUGCUAACCGCUGAAGGCUGAAGACCCUGGAAUUUGUAUCCACUAGCGUUGAGACUUUUCUUCUCCAGUUGCAGAUGCCAUGGACCUGGUCACUUCGAGAUUUCAUUUUCGCCUGAUUUCUUGUUUCCUGUGAUAAAAGGAAAAGAUAAAAAAUGAAUCUUGCAUACACUUACUCUUCAUUAAUUUGAUCCUGCGGUUAAUAUAUCAAAAUAUUUCCAAAUGAAAUGAAAGUAUAGCAUUUGGACAAGUGAGAACUCACUCUUGAAGGAGACAGCUUCAGGUGUUUCUGUAUCGAUUUUUACGUCGCUGCCCAUUUUAUCCUUAACGUAAUCUACAGACCAUUCCAUACCUGUCAAGGUUAAUUUUGUUAAGCUGGUUAAUUUCUCCAGACCAUCAACCUCUUUUAGUUGAUUGCAGUAUCUGAUCUCAAGAUUCUCCAGGACUGGCAUGGUGCCAUCCUCCACAAUCCAAUGCUGCAGUUCCACCAGCUUCCACAAUUUCAAGGCUUGAAGCUUAGGAAACGUGUUCCUACAAACCAUAGUUUUCCCCAAGAAGGAAUGACCAUAGAGCCUAAGGACCUUCAGUUCUUUCAGCUCCGCAAGCAUUUCCAUUGGAUCAUCUGGUAAAUAUGACCCUGACAAAGUAAGGACUGAGAGACUUCUUGGAAGUUCACCAAGUAUCUUUCUCGGCCCUGUUAGUUCUCCAAGCAGAUAUAAUUUACGCAAGCUCUUGAGCUUGUUCAUGCUCUCCAAUUCAAGUUUUGAAGACUCGUGUCUUUCACUUACUGAUCUCAACUUCAAGGACUGAAGAUUUGUUAGUUCUGAAAGCCAGGCAUCUAUAACUUCCAUAGAUGAUUCAUAGCACGUUAAUUUCAAUUUCCUUACACCAACCAACCUGUUCAACUGGUUGUGCAUCGGGAUCUGUCCUCGAAUUUUCAAUCCCCAUAAAGUAUGAAGGUUAGUUGAAGAUCCCUCAUGAUCACAUCCCUUCUGAAUGGACAAGUCAACAUAAACUUCACUCAUAUAGAGAUGCCGAAGCUUCUUUUCCUCCCAAAUGGUGCUUGGUAGAGUGGUUAUAUUAGUAUGUUUUACAUCUAAAGACUGUAAACGAGGGAGCUCGGCAACUGACUUUGGGACUGAAUCCAAAUGAGUCCGUCUUAAACCCAAAUACUUUAGGCAAGGCAGUCUUCCAAUAUCCUCAGAAAGCGCUGGUUUAUAAACACCUUCUAGAUCAAGCACUACAAGCUUUCCAAAACGGUCCUUGACAAUCUUUUUGAGAAGGUCUCCUAUCCCAUCUGCAGGUCUAUCUCCUUUUCUGUCGUAGAAUGAAAUGUAAGAACGUAGAUUUGUCAUGCUGUGUUUUUCAUGCUCGGUAUGGAUGAACAUUUGUAACCCAUCUGCAAGCCUCCGGAUAGGGAUAUUAUACGGUGUUGUAUCGGAAUUGGAUGCGGUUGAACUGCUGCGAAUGCGAUGUAUGUGGAAAAAUCCAAAGUUCUCGGCAUUUGGAGACAAAGCAUCGUGUAAUGCAUUCGGUAGGAGACAUGUUUUGGGGCUUCCAUCUAAGCUCCAUUUAACGAUCUGAACCAAAUUUCUGCUUUCUAGUUGUACAAACUGUUGCAUGGCCAGCUCUUCCAGAGUUUUUGUGUUCCCUUCUGGUGGUAUGAUCAGUCCUUCAGCAAGCCAUAUGAGAAGCAACCUUCUUAUUGGGAUCUCAAAUGAUCUGGGAAAGAGACCCAAAUGAAGAAGACAGUGAUUUAAAGGGAAGCCUAGGCGCUUAUAGGACUCAUCCAAUGUCUUGAGAGGAUUUUCUUCAGUAUCACUGGAUUUUAGCCUCGCAUCAUUUCCUUCUAUCUUCUCUGUCCCCAAAGAAGCCUGUUGAUUGAACUGACCUGCCAAUAGACCUAUCGAAAGAGGUAGACCACGGCCUCUUUGCAUCAAAUCUGACGGCACGUGCACACUUUUUUGUACCUUCUUUGUGAACAAUUUACGACUCUCAUCCUCAUUUAACGGGCGUAGUGGGAGAACUACAGCUGGUGGAUUCAUAUUGUACGCUAGAUACGCCUUGCGAAGGGUGAGGAUCACCCUGCUACCGUUGGAUGAAUUCGGGAGGACUUUAAUGAGUGUAUUCUUCCAUAUCUGAGGCGUCUGUAAAUCAUCUAAAACUAUCAAAUAUCUCUUCCAAUUCAAGAAAAGGUGAAACCUUCUUUGUAGUUGCUCAAUAGAUAAGCUCUGUUUCUGCUUUUUCUUCAUAAGUUGUCCCAAUAAAUCAAGCAGGAGAUUUCUUUCAUCAUAUUCUUGCGGAACAGUGAUCCAAGCCCGACAAUCAAAGUGCUGCUUCGUUGCAAUGCUGUCGUAAAAUGCCCUCACAAGAGUUGUCUUGCCAGAACCUCCCUCACCUAGCACCGAAAUCAGAUAAUGCAAUCGGUAGCUACUUAGUGCGAGUUUCGCUAAUUCCUCUAUCGUAUCCCUCAUCCCUAUGAUUUCAGACUCGUUUUCCAUGAUAUCAGAAACUGAAUUCCACAGUUGUGCAACCUUUCGAUCUACAGUAUCUUCAUGCAGCUGUUCUAAAUCUAAAUCAGGUAACAACUCUAUCCCGGGAGUCAUUUGAAAGACCCAAGAAUUGGUUUUCCGUGCUAUAUCUGCAUGAGGUACAGUAAGAAUCACCCUGCUACCAGUCAAGGAGUUCGGAAGGGAAAUUUUGAGACUUUCCCAGACACUGGAUGUCCAGACAUCACAUAGAACUAUUAGGUACCUCUUCUGAGCUAAGAAAUUGCAAACCAUUUGUCGCAUUGGCUCAAGGGAUAGUUUAAUUUCCCUGACGCCUAUUUGCUUCCAAAUUUCAACUAAAACAUCUAUUUCUUCGAACUCUUCUUGAACAUGGACCCAAGCAGAGCAUUCAAAAUGCUGCUUGACUUCUUUUUCAUCACAUAUUUCCCGCAAUAGAGUACUCUUGCCAACACCCACAAUUGAAAUGAGAAACAGCAACCUGUCAGAAUUGAGGACCGAUUGCUUUAGCUUACUCAUUGCAGCCUUUAUGGCAAUAGUGCUAGAAUCAUUAUCCAAAUAAGUAAACGAUUGAGGCCAUUCUUCUGAAGCAUGUAUUAAUGCUGCAUCACCAACAACACCAUUUUCUCCAAUGAUCCGUGAACUAUUCUGAAUUGCAAGAAUCACCCGACUACCAUUAAAAGAGAAAGGAAAGGCAGGUUUGAGAUCGUUCCAAAUACUUGCCGUCAAAGCUCCAGAUAAAACUAUCAGAUACCUCUUCCCAACUAAGAAAUCAUGAAGCACCUUGUCUACAUGAAGCACCUUGUCUACAUGAAGCACCUUGUCUACCUGUUCCUCUAAGAAAACAUGAAGCACCUUGUAUACCUGUUCCUCUUUCGUUUUGUUAUGCUUAACUUGUUCUAAAAUGGCUUGUAAGAUAUCCUUUGCUUCAUACUCUUUACGAACAUGGACCCAAGCAAUGCAUUGGAAAUAUUGUUUGAUAUCUUCUGAAUUGUAGACUGCCCACAAAAAAAUUGCCUUACUUGAGAAUGCAACUAAAGCCUUGAAGAUGAGAUAUUGAAGCAUGCAUCGACUAUGGACCGGCUGAGCUAAUUUCUUUACUAAAUCAUCCAAAACGAUCGUAACCGGUUUCUUCUCAAACCAUUUUUGGCCAUGAAUUUCAACUUCUGGUCUAACUCCCACAACUUUUGGGCUAGUUGGCUGACCUUGCUUUAUUACAGCUUCAGUGUUAGUCAAUGACUCAUUUGGUUUAACUUUCAUUUGCUCUCUUACUUUGUCCUUCAAUUUCCCAAUCUUUUUUCUUAAUCGCCUUUCGCUCAACCAGCACUUGAUUCUCUCGGAGUUAUACUUCAUAUUGAAACCUCUGUGGAAUUGCAGUAUCAUAGUGUCCGAGAAGGAGUCAAUCAUGUCCUCCACAAGAUAGAUAUCCUUGACAAGCUUCAACCAGUCAUCGAUAGUUUUUUUGUCAAGUACUUGGACGCUCACAGCACUUUCCAAGGAUUUCUGCAUUUCUUGUAGCUCAUUUAUGGAUUUUUCAACUUCACUUUUCAAAUUUGGAUUGCUAGAGAGCAGACGUAAUUUUCGGCUCAAAUGUUCAGUUAUUUCAACAGCCAUGGAGUCUCAGUUAUCAAUCUUUAAUUCUUCUUUUCCUUUAUAAUAUGUGGCUUAACUUUGUCAGUGAUGUCCUGCAUCCUGCUAAAAUACAAUUCUUUAAUUAGUGAAUGAGGUUUGAAGAAGUUGCCUGCCUAAAAUACAUAAAUUUUUAUGCCAAUUAGGCCUUAAUCAGUCUUUCCUAAUUUCAUGAUGAGAGAUCUCCUAACUUCAGCUACUAAAGUUUAUGAUAAUUUAUCAUAUAACAAGAGAGCUAUAUAAAAGGAAAACAGACAAAUUUGGUAAGUUGUGUUAUCCGUGUGUUUGUGUUCUUCAUGCUAAGCAAUUGCGUAAACAAAAACAUUGUAGUUAUUAACAUACAUGAAUUUUUUUCUAAUAUGCAAUAUUAUACAUAAAAUUUUAUUUUAUACAAUUUUAUAAAUAAAAUUUUGAUUUAAUUUAAUUUUUACAAAUCACUAACAAUAUAUCGAAUUAGCACCAUCUUAAGUUGGGUAUUACAUACACCAACAGUUAUAUUAAUCCAAUAUGAAAAUAAAUAUAUGUAUUCAUUUUUUUAGAUGUAUAUAAUUGAAUUAAAAUUAAGGCUUUACGUAUACAUAUGAACCACAAUUCAAGUUUCAUAUGUAUAAUUAUACUAAAUAAAAGUACAUAUGUAUCAAAUUACACAUUAAAGCAAAAUUCAUCUAUAAAUAUGAUAUUUAUCCCCAAAAUCAUAAAAAAAAUUUAAAUGUGUUAAUAGUGUUUAAAUGGUUAUUUUUACCUUCAUUGAACAUAUAGUAUUCUCAUAACUUUUGUUAAGGCUUAGCUCACAAAUUGAUACUUAAUUUUUUUUUUUUAGCUAACUUUUUUUGUCACAAGUGAUAACUAAAAUUUUUCCCCAAAAUUAAUGCCUCCUUAAAUCAAGCAAUUAAAUUUAAUUUUUUAAGAUAAACUAACCUAUAAAUUAAUACUUAAACUGCGCAUUUUUUUUUCUUAUUUUGGUAUUUAAAUAGCCUCAUUGUACCUAAUUACUUUUUCCCCAUGUAAGUACUUAGAUUAAUUUAUUAGUUAGUUAAAAAUAUUCCGUCUAUUUUAAAAAAAAAAACAUUUCAAGAUCAACAUGUAGCAAAAAAAAAAAAACAAAAUGUUAUAUUUUCUCUUAUAUAUAUAUAUAAUAUUUUCUUUUUUCUUUUUUCUUUCUUUAGAAUUGGGCCAAUAGUAGAAUCGAUCAAAUACUAGUUCUCAGUUUGAUCAAUUUGUUCAAUUCAAUUAAAUAAAUUUAUAAAAAUUUAUAAAAAUAUUUUUAAAAUAGAGAAAACUGAUUCAACCGGUCUAUAUCGGUUGACGAAUCAAUCAUUUCAACCCCUAUCUUCAAAUCAAUAUCCCAGCCAAUUAUUGAUUCAACCAACCAAUCCAGUUCUAAAAAUAAUAGUUUUGAUCAAUGAAAUAACUUUUCCAAUCCUGUCAAGUCGAGCCGAGCAAACAGAAGGUAAAGUUUAAAAACAUAAUUAAUUGUGAGCUUUUCAACCUCAGAAGGGUGAAUUUCAAACAAUAUUAUAAAGGAAGAAGAAAAAAAUAUAAAGAUAGAGAAAUAAUGUAAAGGAAAAUUAAAGAAUUAAAGAAUAUUUUUCUAAGUUUAUAUGAAAUGGCAAUUUGUAAUAUUUUUUAAUGGAUAUAUCAUUUUAGUAUAAAAUGGAUAAUUAAAUAAUAAUUUAGGCACUGAUUGUGAUCCAAAAAAUAUUUAGAUACUAAAAGAAAAACAGUAUAAAUUAGAUACUAAUUUGUAGGUUGAUUUUUUUAAAUAAAUUUAAGGGUUUGACUAACAUUGGACUAAUAAAUUAUGUACCAACUUGAAAAAAAAUUGUUAGUUAAACUUUUAUAUAUAUAUAAAAUCAAAACUAACAUUCUGGAAUUUUGAUUUCAAAAAAUGAACUUAGAUUUGUAUAAAGCAACAUCUAAUCCUUAAAUGAUAGAUAUAUAUAUAUUUUUUUUGAAUUUGAUCUUUAAAUUUUUUUUGUUUAUAAUAAUUUCAUAAUUUAAUAAUUCUUUCUAUUUUGAUCCUUAAACUUUGAUUCCGUUAAUAUUUAAUGUUAUCUCCUAAAUAUUAAUAUACUAGUUUUUUUUUUACUCAAAUAUAUGCGAGCUUGAUUGUACAAAAUAGUUAAAAUUAUUUUAUAAUUUUGUAUAAAUUUAAUUUAUGAUUGGUAAAAUAAAUAAAAUAAAAUCAUUUUAUAAUUUUUUAUAAUUUUGUAAUCCAAUAUUUCUAAAUUUGAUAGUGUAUUUUUAAAUAAGUAAAAAGAUAGUUUUGAAAUUUGAAAUAAAUUGCUUAGGCAUAUUUUAAGUUUUAAGAUAAUUUUAUUUUAAAUUCGAAAUAUAAUUUUUUAAAUUAAAAUUAAAAUCACUCCACUUAUAAGUCAACCAAAAACAAAAUAAGGAGAUGAGAAUUUAAAACGUAAAAUUUGCUUUUUAAUUUCAUUUUUUUAAAUCUUUACUUCCUUCUUUUUCUUUAAGAAAAAUAUUUUUAAAUUAAAAAAUCUUAUCCUACAUAUCAUUUAAAUAUUAAUAAUAAUUUUAAUAAAUAAUUAUAAAUAAGAACUUGGAAUUUCCAAAAAUAAAAUUUUAAGUUAUAAUCUAAAUAACACUUUAUGGAUAAUGAAAAAUUAUAAAAAUUAUCUUUUAUAAAAUGAUAUAAAAUAAAUAAAUAAAUAAAAUCAUUACUUGGCAUCAUUUUAUAAUUUUGUACCUUGUUAUAUUAUAUGAUAUAUAUGGUACAUAUAUAACCUAAAAAUACAAAAAGCAAUAUUAAAAUAUUAUUAAAAAUAAUAUUUUAAAAAAAAAGAAUUAUUCGAUGAUGUAAUACAAUAUAAAAGUGCUCAUACAUUAAAACUUAAUUAAUAAGAAUAGCAAAAACAAAUGAAGUAAAAUACCAUAAAAAGAUACAACAAAAUCAUAUAUUUCCUAAAUUCUUAUAACAAGUGAACAAGAAAGAAGUAAGAAGAGUGAGAUUACGUACCGCUAAGUACGAGUGUUGAGGGUGCACCAUUGCAGAUUGUCGUCUGCAAUUCGAACUUCAGGCCAUAGUUUUUAGCUGAUCUGGCCACAAUAGCUUCCCGGAGACCGCCGGUUAAGCUAGGAAAGUGAGAGAAAUAAAGUAAGAGAGAUUAAGUGUUAGGCACAUGUAAAGAAGAGCUGUAAAAUAAGUCCAGUCAAGGAACGUGUUCUUUUACUAAAGAAAAGGAAUGUUUGAAAUGGGAUUAAAUUGUUUCAGUGAAGCAACAGAUUGCUUUUUAUUGGAAGUGAUGUAAAAAGAAGAAAAAACAAUCAUAAUUCAGUAUUUUUAGAACAUCAUAAUGGCUGAAAUGCUCACUUUUGUUUCAAAAGACCAUGAUGCAAGGCACUGGCGAAUCUCGAGAGGGCUUCCAUGGUCCUGGCGCCCCUAAAAUGUAAAAUUAUUAUUUAAUCCUUUAUAUUAUUCUAAAAUUUUUAAAUUAAUAGAUGAAGGUAAAAUUAUAUUUUAAUUCUCUUAAAAUUAUAAAAAUUCGAUUAAUUCUUUAAAAAUAAUAAAGAUAUAGACUAAAUAAUUAAAUUUUCAUAACAUUGUUCUGGCUUCGCCUUUUUUGAUGAGAAUAUUUUGACUAAAAUAUGCAACAAGUUGUUGUAUUCCAUCGGUCCUUAGGAUUGAGGGGCUUUAACCCUAAAGUUUUUAAAUUUUCAUUAUACCCUUAAAAUUUUUUUAAAAUUUUAAUUUUCUCAAAAAUUUUUGAAAAUUCUUUGUAUACCUUUCAUAUUUUUUAGUUACAUCUCUACCAAUGUGAGUAGUUUUUUUAAAUUUCACAAUGUCAUACCAUCCAAUUUGAUAAAAAAAAAAGUGACUAUGUUAACAGUUAGACCUUAAUUUUAAAACUUGAAGAGUCUGGGUAUAAAUUCUAAAAAAUUAAAAGUAUAGAAAUUAAAAUAUAAAUUUAUAAAGAGUAAAGCAACCUAUAACAUAUUUUAACCAUAUAUUUUUAUAUAAAACUUCUUCAAUUGAGUGUCCCGGUUAAAAAGGUUCCAAUUGCUUCUUCUUUUUCCAAAUAAUUGUUUGGCAAGUUAAUUUAUAGGGAAAAGCAAUUUCUAAUUUGCAAAAUCGGGGGUGGAUAGGAAAGUGAAGGUACAUUAGAGUUCACACCAUUACGUUGCCUUUGUCGACUGAAAAUUUUCAGCUUCACACAACCUAAAAAAAUUCAAGAAAGACCCGGUUUUCCGGCCAAAGAAAAACCUAAUUUCCCGAUGGUCAUAGCAGUGAUAGGCCCCUCAAGCAGGGGCGCAGUGGCCAGCGAGCUUGCCAAACACCUCCAUUUCCACCUCAUUGACGAAGAUGAUAUCAUCCCUACUUCUCAACACUCUUUGCCUUCCUCCUCCGCCGCCGCCGUUGCUGAAUCCAAAACUCUCAACUCGUUCUUCGAACUUGUCAUUCAAAUUGCGAAAACGAUCAGGUUGAAUCAGGGGCUUAUCAUCAGCACAAAGCUCUCUCAUAGCUCCCUCAUCGAUGACCUAAAGCAGCUGGCAGGCACUGCUGAUGAACGUCUGGUAAUUGUUCAAUGCAUCGAAGCCCAAGAUGCGAGCUACAGAUACCAAUUUGAAGGAGUUCAGGUGUUCACUGUUGACCCCAAACGCUUCGAUGCCAACAACCUUUUAGCCGAAAUGUCGAGUAAGGUUGCAAAAAGGAAUUCCACUCAUCUGCAUGCUCUGUCUUUGUAUAACAAUUAUCAGCCAUUCACUGAAUCUGGGAAAGGCCUCAAAUGCAAAAGGUGCCUGGAACUCAUUUCAGGCCCUAUGUAUCAAUGCAUGGAGUGCAAUGAAUACAUUUUCCACAAAUCUUGCGCUGAAGAUCCCUGUGAUUUAAAGCUUGUUCGGCAAAGUUGCCCUAAAAAUCUCCGAGCAUCAAAGGAGCCGCCAGGGUAUGAAUUACCUCCGGAGAAACAGAAAAAGUGUGAGACAUGUGAAUUGAACAAGAAGGAUUUCUCCGUUAGUUGUCGUGAUUGUAUCUUCAAAACCAACAUGGAAGGUAAAUUCCUCCCCCUCAUCAUCAAUCACGGAUCUCACUCACAUCCCCUCAAUCUUUUAAUGAUGCCUCCCUCGUAUGAUUACAAGUUCGAAUGUUGCGGGUGCGGUGAGCUGGGCAAAUCCAUUAGCUACAGAUGUUAUGACUGCAACUUCAAUCUGCACGUAGGUUGCGUUUUGUUAGAGCACACUGCUAAAAGCAUCCGCCAUGACCACAAACUUACACUUGUCUAUGAUUCUCUGGAAGUUACCUAUUGGGAUAAAAACAGUUGUGAAUUUUGUAAUAACGAAAGAAAACCAGAACAAUGGUUUUACUACUGUUCAACUUGCGAAAUCGCGGCUCACAUUGGUUGCUGUGCGGUAGAUCAGUCGCAGUGAUCUUAGGGUUUCCAUCGCCAUGACUGCAUAUGGUCAAACUUCAGCAACGCAGAUCGUUCCUUUUCUUUGGUUUUGCCUAAUAAUAUUGCAUGAUUGUUUUUGUUUUAUUUUCGCAUGAUGCCAUGUGUUCACACAUACAUAUUGUGGGCGACCUCUAGAUAGAGACAUGUAAUAUGGUUCGCCUGCACAUGGCACGAAAAUUGUGUACACGAAUCCACUUCGAGUAUACAUGUGUUAAUCCUAAGAUAAGAUACGUGUCAUCAUGCAUUAAGACUGUAACACCCCUUUACCAAUCCUGAUUACAGGAUCAAGUGCUACAUUAGUUUUCAUAAACUCUAAUAGUAAUAUCUAAAUAAAAAUAAUAUUAUAAUUUGCACAUAUUAGUUUCGUUGUUCCAGUAUAUUAAUUAUUGAUACUCGAGAUAAGCUGAAAUAAAAAUUUUCAACCAUUCUUACAUUUAGAACAAUAUACUAAAGCGAAAGAAUGGACAUUGUGAAAAAUAUGGAACGUGGUUGUGUGGAUUUCAGGAACCAUGUUUAAAUUUGAAAUUCAAGGGAUAAUUUGUUAAAUUAGUUCCUAAAGUUUACCUAGUUUAACCCUUGCUCACAUCUCAAAAUUUAAGCCAAUUUAAUUCAAAAAUAAAUCAUAAUUAAGCAUUUUAAAAAUCCGAAUUUCUUAUAUUACUUAAUUAACAUUUGAAUUAUUUCAUAUGAAUUAAGCAGACAUCAAGUUUUACAGUUAAGUCCCAUCACAUUCAACCUUAAUACACACACCUAGGUACAUGCCAUUUACUGAAACAACAGAAAUUAAUACUUUACCCCUUUCUCGGAUUCACUUAUAUGAUUAGACGAGAUGCCUUCGAUCUUCAAAAAUCCCUUUUCUUCUACUCUUAACCUACGCGUAUAAAACACGCGUUAAACUAUUACUAGCUUAGGAAGUAAAACUAAUAUUUAGAUCAUAAUCUAUAUUAUAAAUUAUAACUUAUUUAUUAUUACUACACAAAAUCAUUUAAAUGACCUGUUUGUAUUCAUCAUACAUAAUUUUUCCAAUCGAUUCACUUAUUCUUACAAUUAGGGCCACAUUUAUUAUUUACUUAUUAAACACCAACUAAACAUACUGAUUUAAUUAUCAUCUAUAUAAUACUAGAAUCACAUGAUCCAUUUUAAAUUCUCAUUUAUUCCAUUUAGCUAAAAUUUCGGAUAAUUUACUUUACUUAUUUCAACCAUAUAUUUUCUUAUUUUUCUCAAUUUCAAAUAUUUUCAACACAUAUAAUCUAUAUAAUUCAAUAAUCACUAAAAUAAUUUAUACAUUUUUCAGAGACCCAGUAGACUAAACAAAACACUUAGGAUAUACGGAAUUGAUACAGAGAUGCACUAAAGUGUGCUAAUAGAACAAUAGGCACCAAAGUGCAAACCACUAAGCACCAAAGUGCAAAAUAGUAAGCGCCAAAGCGGGAAACGAUAACCGCGCUAAAAUUUCCUUAAUGGCAUGCCAUCUAUAUCCCAAUAGUUCUAAUCUCGUCUACUUGGGUAAAUUAUAUCAUGCACACAUAUCACUUUUACAUUUUUGCAUAAUGCUUUUACAUUUUCUACCAUUUAAUCCUAAUAACAAUAUUUCGUAUAAUUAUAUCUUCCUCUUUCAUUAACACAUAUAACUUGUCACAAUAUUUAAUAAUCCUCCAUAAUUUCACUAAUAAUUUUUAUUAGACAUUUGACCUAUCACUUUUACUUUAUUUACAAUUUAGACCACAUCAUGACAUUUCAUGUAACAAUGUCUUUCAUUUUUAAUAACAUAUAUAAAAUGUUUCAUUUCUUAGUUUAAUUUCUAUAUUUCACCACGAAUUCUUAUUAUCAUAUUUAUAUAUUAUUCUUAGUCCUUAAGUCAUCAAUUCACUAAAUAGAACUUUCGUAUCUUUUUAAUACAUGUAACAUGUUUCGCUAUUUAAUAUAAUUUCCAUAAUUCAUCAUUUAUUUAUAACUUAUUUACUUUAUACUACUUUUACAUUUUUAAAAAAUAUUAGUCAUUGUAAAGAUAGUUUAUUUAACAUUAUUUUCUACUAACAAUAAUUCAUGUAUCAUAUCUCAUAUUUAUAAAUUUUCCAUAAUUUACUAUUAAUUCUUAUUAUAUAUUUUUUAAAUAUAUUAUUUUUACAUAUUUUACAAUGCAGUCCCUUUCUUUCUCAUAUUUUGUCAAAUAAUCCCACAACAUUACGACAUCAAUCUACUCAUCAAUUAUAUACAUAUAUCAUUUCUACACUCAUUUUAUUAUUUAAAAAUUAUAGUUCUAUUAACUAUUGUACCUCUUAUGAAUUAGUCCUUUAUAUCUUUUCCUUACUUUUCUUUUAAUUUUCUCUAUUACAUUUUACUUAGUCAAUUCAUCAUACCAAUAUACUCAACCUUAGUCAAUUCAUCAUACCAAUAUACUCAACCAUUAUCACAUUUUAUUCUUUAAUUAAUUAUAUAAUAUGUAAAUUUCUAAUUAAACACUAUAUCUAGAUUUAUUCUCAACAAAUUUUACUUAAUAAUUCAUCACAUAUUUAAAAUAAACAAAACUUUAGUUGUACUUACAACUCAAAGUAUGGAAUCAAGCUUUCUUCCUUUUCUUCCUCCUUUAGCUCCUCCUUUGCUUUAAUUCUCUAUUUGUUUCUCUCUUUUCUUCACUUUUUCUUCAUUUCUCCAUAUCAAAAUACACAAUAUUUACACAUUAAAAUCAUAUUCACAUAUCAUAUUUCAUGUUUUUCAAAUAAAACCAACAUGUAUUUCAAGAAAAGUAUAGCUUUCUUACCUUAAUCACUUGUAUUAAAUACUAAUUCUUAUUUUCUCUCCUCCUACACAAGUAUGGAUGCAUUUCUUUUAACAGUUGGGUAGUUACUACACUUCUCUACUAAUUUUACUCUCUAAUUGUGAAGAAAUUUGGAAAAAAAAAAAAGAAAUCUAGCUUAAUUGUUUUCUAUUUGAUGAAAAGGACUAAAUUGAAAGAAAAAUAAAAGUUAAAAUGGUGUAAAAAUGGUGGCUGACGUGAGCCAUUCCAUCCUUUCUUUUCUCCAUUUCUCUUAAAAGUAUCUCCUUUUAUUUUAUUUACCAUUUUGUCCUAACUAUUCACACUUUUUACUAUUUAUCCUUAAUCAUUACCUUCCAUAAUUAUCUUUUCAAUUCAUUUACCAUUUUACCCUUCCUCUUUUCCUAUAAUAACACCCAUGUGUCCUAUCUCCUUUGGUAUAUUUUUACCUUUAUGUCCUCCUCAUUUUUCAUCAAUUUAAUUUAAUCCUUCAACACCCAACUUUCUCACAUUGUCCAAAUACUUUCCACUAAUUUAAUUGAUUCCCAAAAAAAAUCAUAUUAAUAUUUAUACUUUUUCAAAUAUCUUAUGCACCUAUUUUUUUAUAUCUCAUAACUCUUUAAAUUUCCAGUUUCCUACUUUCUCAAAAUUUCGAAUAAUUUAUUGUAUAUAUAUCACAGUUCAAGACUCUGAAAAUUUCUGGGAUGUUACAGACACCUACCUAGCAUACAUGUAUGAACAGCGACCGUAUCAUAUAAAAACAUAACAUUAACCCAUCUGAGAUGACACACACAGAAAAACACUCAACAAGUCACAAUUGUUUUCAUAUUGAUGUAUAUAUAUAUAAUUUUUUUUAGAAUUAGUCCAUAAAUUUAGCAAUUGAUGUUACCUUGGAACAUAAAUUUUUUUGUCCAAAUUAAUCAAUGAGAUUUCUUUUAAAAAAUUGGACAAAAAAUUUCUAACCCAAUGUGAGAAUAAUUAUCUAGUUCAUAUUCCUAAUUCUCAAAUUUAAGGACUAAUUUAGAAAAAAAUAAAAACAUUUACUAAAUUCAAACUUCAUCUACUACAUUAACUUUUCCUAUUCAACCAAGUUGAUGAAAGGAAGAAAAAAUAUACUGCACUACAGAGAUAAGGUCGAAAUUUUAGUUCUAAAUUUUCGAAGAAAAUUUUUUUUUUUUGGUACAUUCAAUUAUAUUAAUUCAAAUUUCUUAGAAUUCUUAAACUUGGAUAGUUUCUCAUCAAAGAAAUUUAACUUAAGAUGCUUGUAUCUUAAGAUAAUCAUAAAGAAAAUAAUUUGAAAGGCGGGUUUGAGAUUUGAAUUGGUUAUUGUUUUUAUAUUAAGGUUUGAAAUUUUUUUUUCUAGUUAGCCCUUGAACUUAACAAUCUUUUCUAUAUUGAAUUUGAACUUAUUUUUAUCCAAUUUAAUCACUGAUAUUUACUUAAAAGAAGUUUAGGCUCGAUGUGGAAACUAUUUCUUAAUUUAGACCCCACUAUAAGAAUAAUUACCGAAGAGACUAACUAAAAAAAAAAAAGUUUAGAACCAAAUGUGAGAUAAUAAUUUUUAAGAGAGAAUCUGGAGAUGUAGUUUAAGUUUAAAGUGCAUUAAGUGUCAAAUUUUUAUUCUUUUUGUGCUUGUUAAUAGGUGUCCUACUUUAGUAUAUUAAUUUGAUAACUUUUUCCAGCUAUGAAAUUAAGAAAAAAUCGCUUUUUUAAUUAUUUUUAAUGAUUUUUUAAGUUUUGUUAUAUAUAUUUAAAAAUUUUAAGUGAAUUUAUUACUUUUUCUUUACACGUGGUAGUAUGUCAUUGGUGGAUUUAAAAAAAUUUAACCGAAGUACAGAAUUAAAAUACAAGGGCCAAAUUAAAAACAAAAAUAAAAUGCAAAGGCUAAACUGAUAAAAUAAAUAAUACAAAUAUCAAAGUUAUAAUUUAAGUAUUGUACAGGGGCCAAAAGCGGUAUUAAGCCAAACUAAAAGAGAAUGAAUUAAAUUGAAAGAGUAGCAUUUGAUGGGGCGAAGGUGGUGUGAAGGAUCAUUUGUUUUUCUAAUGUGGGUGCUCCUUUCCAGUUCUGCACGAGGCCAAGCGGUGACAAGAGUUAACCCAUACCAGUUCACCAACCCAACACAAGGUGUUUAGUUUUCCGUCACUCACAUUUCAAGCAACAAUCUCUGGUUUCGUUCUGUUUUACGACGCAAGAUCUUUGAGAAGAAUCGGGUAGCCAUUGACCAUUAUAAGUAUUUUUCUGCUACAUCAUUCACAAUCAUUACCAAAAUAUGAACCCUAACCUCUAUUCAUUGUUUCUUUUUGUUUUGUUGAUGAAAAUAUUCUUUUACCAGAGUGCAAGGCAUUUGGUGAUUGCUAUUUUCUGCCGCCUCAGCAUCUCCUCAAGGCCAGGUAGGUACUUUUGCAAUACCUAUGUUUUGUUUUGUGUUUAUUUUUUUAGCAUACUCACUUUUUAUACUUUUUAUAAAUAAAAAAAAUUUAAGAAUUAUUCACCAAUUGGUUUAAAAUAAGCAUAUAAGUUUCCUUUUUUUUUUUCCAUUUUUUAAAAAUAUUAGCUGUAAAAAAAAUCUUUACAUCAUCUUUAAUGGAGUAACCGGAAAAAAUAAUGUCAAAAAUAAUAGUAAAUAAUUGUAAUUUUUUAUAAUUUAUUGAUGGAAACGAGAGUUUAUUAAUAAUUAAGUCACUAAAAGGUUAUUAUAAAAGAAUUUUUAUCAUUUUACAUUUUUAUUUAAAAUUUAUAAAAAAUAAUUUAAACCAAAUUAAAUCUAAAAAAACCGAAUAUAAAAACCUUUUUUUAAUAUACGCAUAUAAUAAAAUUUGAGAUUUGAACUCAAACCCUUUUAGUUUUCAAUAUUUAUAUUUUACCAUUCAGCUAAAACUUUAAUAUUUUAUUAUUUAUAAUCCAUUAUCUUUCAAUAAAUCUAAUAUAACAAUGUAUAAGGAUCAUAAUAGGUGUAAAUCAUAAUUAGUUAUCAUUUAGAAAACUAAGGCAUGAAAUAUAUUUACGUGAAAAAGGUGUGGAAAAAGGACAACAAAUAUGUCCAAUAGUCUUGCAUAAAUUGUGAAUUUAAUUCAAAUAUUUUUAAUUUUCAUACUGUUUUAAAACUUUGUUCAGUUUAUUACCAUCAUCAACUACCAAUGAAAAGAAGUUUUAUCUUCCUUCACUGCUUUUCUUUCUCUCUGAUUUUUCAAUGUUAUCUUUUUUCUUUAUACAAUAUUGCUGUUUAAAUAGUGUCAAAUCGGUAUUUAAUAAGUGCUUUAAUCAUUUAUAUUUAACCCAAUUAUUUUAAUAAAUAUCUUAUUUUUAUCUUUUUUCCCCUAUUUUUAAUGGUAAUUAAGAUAAAUAAAAUAAAACAUCAAGAUAAAUUAGUUGAUUUAUGGAUUUUCAGUUAUAUUUUAAAAGAUAAAAUAUAUAUGUUAUAAAUAAAUAAAGCAAUGGAGAAUUGGCCAUUUAAAUUUUAUCAAUAAUAAUUUAUUUUAUUAAUGUUAAUAUAAAAAAUUAGUAGAAAAAAUUAUUCAAUAUUUAAUUUAAUAAAAAAUACCCAAUUAAGAAAUUUUAAUUUAAUAAUGAUCAUUUUAAUUUUGUUGAUAAAAAAAUAAUUAAUAUUCUAUUUCAAUAAAAAAACAAUGAUUGAAUAAUCAAUUUUAGAAAAUUUAAAGGAUAAAUAUAUUGUUCAUUAUUUAUUAAUAUUUUUAUUUUAAUAAAAAAAGCAUUCAAUUCAAUAUGAGAGUGCAUUUGUUUCGGAAAAUGAUUUUUGGAAAAUAACUUAAUUUUUUAGAAAAAUUAAUUUUUAUAGUAUUUAGAUGAUCCUAUGCAAAAUAUUUUCUAUUGUUUGAUAAAUUUUCGUGAAAAUUAUUUUGAGUGAGAGAAACACACAUUUUUAUCUUUUGAUUUUUUAUUGAAUUUAUGUUAUUUCUAUAAAUUAUAUUUUGCUAUGUUUUUUAUAUAUGUGCCAAUGUUUUAAAUUUUUAAAAUACAUCAAAUUAAAUUUAGGGUAAAUUACACCAUUAGUUACUAAAUUAUGGGUAAUUUUCCGUUCUGGUCACUUAACUAAAAAAUCACAAUUCAGUCACUAAAGUUUUCGAAAUUAUUUUUUUGGGUCACCCAACUAUUAAAUGGCACUUUUUUAAUAGGCAUAAUAACAAUUUUAGUCCCCACUUUUUUUUUGUCAAUUUGAUAUUGAAGCUAUAUAAAAAUAUAAAAGAACUCAAAAUUAUUUAAAAAUAGAAAAUUCUAUAUAAAAUUUCUAGAAAAAUAAAAUCUUGAAAAUGUUGUUGAAGAACUAAUAUGUAUGUAUGGGAAAUAAAGAAAAUUAUCAUUCAAUAAUAAAAAAUUAAAACAAAACAAAAAGAUUAAAUCAUUAUGUGCUUCUUUCGUGUUUCUCGAAAUCAAAUUAAUAAUAUUGUAACACCGAUUCCGGUAGUUGAUAUGGACAAGAGACAUUAUUAGAACAAUUUUGGUACAAAAAUCAGUAAUUUAUGUAAUUUAAUAAAUUAAGAAAUUUACUUAUUUGAAUUAAGUGGUAAUAAAAAUAACUAAUAUUUUAUUUCAAUAAAGAAAAUAUUGAAAAAUUAAAAUUUUAUCAACUAUAAUUUAUUUGGACUUUAAUAUUAAUGGUAAUAUAUUUUAUUAAUAGUUUAUUUUAAUUAAAAAUACAAGAUUGAAUAAAUAAUUUUAGGGUAAACUACAAGAAUAGACACCCAAUUAUUUUUUUUUCUAGCAUAAGAGUAAUUAACUCUAGGUUAAUUAAAAAACUCCUAUUAUUAGAUCAAUUCGUUCUAUUAAUUCUCUUAUUAGAUUUGUCUUUAAUUCGGUAGACUUAUAUCGUCCUAUUUCUAGGAUUGCAUGCAACUUCAUUCAAUUAUGCAAUAUGUAAUCACAAGAAUGGCUUCUUCAACCUUAAACUUAUGCACAUCAAACAUGGAACAACACCCUAGAAUUUAAACCCAAGAACAAUUAAGUCUUCAUAAUUGAAAACAAAGAAAUUAAGAUUUUAUUGAAUAAAAGAUAGAAAUCAAACAAUAGAAUUCAUCCUAAGAUUCAUCUUCCUUAGGUAAUAAGAGAAUUAGUUCAUACUUCCAAGAAUAAACACCAAAAAGUAUAAUAUAACCACUAAAAUAAAAAGAAAUCCAUGAUAACUCCAUUGGAAAUUAGUUGGACUCUUGAAUAUUGUUGGAGAAUUGCUUAGAAAUUGACUUCAAUAGUGUUAUUUGAGUAAUUUUCGUGCUAUUCUAUGACGGAUGCUUUCCUCCUCCUUUAUUUCCUUAUUUAUACCUUCUUAAAGUGCCAAAAUUUAAAAAUCGUCACUUCUAGUUAGCACACAGGGUUCCGGAAAUCUACACGUCCUGAACACAUGCCCGUGUGAAUCACAUGGUCGUAUGGGUAGUUCGUGUGAAAAUUUAUCGCAUGUGUGCAACUUCUGAAAUGCUCCAAUGUUGAAAUUUUCACCCGGUUUUCACUCCUAUUGCUCUCAAGUACCCUAUUAAGCAUUAAAACAUGCAUAUAAAAGAUUAGGAGUAUAUAAUUCACAAUUAAUAUCACAUAAUCACCCAAAAAUACAUUAAGAAUGAGGCUAAAACAUGUUACUAUUGACACUUAUCAUAUAUAUAUAUAUAAAAUGACCUUAAGCUUUUCCUCCAAAUAUAUUUGGGUUUGCCAUCAACUCACGUAAAAAAGUUAGGUCAAAGGUUAGCUUUCCCCAUUAAAAUAAACAAUGCAACGCAAUAAAUCACAAACUUAAAAUCAACCAAGAUGGAAGUUUAAUAUUCCUAAAAUUUAUAAUUAAAUCUUGGUUCAAAUUUGCAUCUAACAACAAUGGGAGAAAAGAAACUUGUAACACCCCAAACUCGGCCUAGACGUUAUGGCUGAAUCCGGAGAAGUUACAAAGAAUGGGUUUUGAAAACGGAGUCGCUACGUUAAAUCAUUUCAGCUUAUUAACUCAUAUUCUUUUAUAUCCAUUGUCAAACACGCCAAUUAAUUGAUUUAUUUGCCAAAACAUAUUUUACAUCGGAAGUCUAAUAAAACUGUUAUAUUUUGGAAAUCCAAUUCGUAUUUUUAGAAAAAUCUUUUUGUUUGAGUAAAAUAGUCAUUUGUAUAAACAUUUUGUUAAACCAUGCAAAUAAACAAGCAAACAAACCAAAACCAAAAGUUUAAAAACUGUCCAAUAAAUUACAAACUCACAAUUAAGUCUGAAAUUUAAAUAAAAAUCAUAAUUACUUAGGAUAAUCAGUUCUCGCACGAAUGGUCACCGCUGAGUCUCUAUUGCAUCAAUCCACCUAAGUUUGUGGAUUACCUGUACAGAACAAACAACAUAUGUGAGUUUCGUAAACUCAGUGUGUAACCCAACAGAAAUAGGCAGGCAAAAUAUUCAGAAAUCUCAUGCUAAGUCAAAUACAAAUACAGACUUAUGUCCAUUUUAGAUACAGAUACAGAUAUGCAGAGUCCUACCCCUAUCCUUUACACACCAACUCCGUCCAUCCCAACACACCAUGUGGGGUUAAAAACACCCACCCAUCCCUACACACCAUAUCGUGUCAUUACGACACAUAUCAGAUAAUAUGCAGCCAUGCUGCCAUAAUAUAGGCGUUGAUCGCUAUAUAGAACACUUCCUCCACAUAUACAAAUCCCACCCUAAAAAUAGUUACAGAAAUCAUAUACAGAAAUUACAGAUAUAACAUGCUUAUCAUGCUUGUGUACAAAUUUCAGAUGUACAUAUAUCAGAAUAGUCAGACAUGCAUAAAAGUGUCAUUCUCAGAGCAUACUAUCAGAAUAUGAAAUUGCAUAAUCUAGGGUUUGAUUAGCCCUUACCGACCCUAUGGUAGGCCCACAGUCGAUCGAAACGACCCGUGCAACCCUUGGGAAAUUUUCAAAAUUUAGGCUCACAUGCCUGUGUGGAAUGCCCGUGUAGGCCCAAACGCCCAAAUUGGUCUUGUCCAUGUGGCCCACACGGCCACACUCACACCACCACACGGUCAUGCCUUGCGGACGACCAAGCCUUCGUCGAUCACACGGCUGUGUCUCGCACACGGCCAACCACACGGGCGACCACACGCCCGUGUGGCAUCAACAGAACAGUCGAGCCUUUCGAAACCGCCAACACACUCGUUCACUCGCACAAAUUAGACUGUUGGAGUGGAACUACUGCUUCACCUUCGUCUCCUAAGCAACAAAUUUACAAAACUUCAACCUCAGAAAACAAAAGCUAAAUGAAUACAACCAACCCCACUUACCGGUUUCACGAAGACCAAAGAUUCAAAACGCCCAAGAGCAAGGUUUAAUGACAGAAUCAGAAGGCGGAGAAGGGGGAGUUUACUACUAUUUUGCCAGAAAGUAGAAGAAGAAAAGGAGAAGAAAAUCAAAGGGAAUUUCUAUUUGGGAAAAAAAAGGUUAGAAACAACGGAUUUUGAGAAAAGAAUAAAAAAUAAAAAUAAAAUAAUUUUAAUAUAAUUUGAAACCUCAAAUCCUACUAAAUUUCACCCACUAACCACAUACAACUACCUUGGAAUUUUGGCUCUACCGAAACUCUUCCAAACAACCGAGCAAAAAUUAACACCCUUGCUAAAGCAAGACCUCCAACACCCAAAUCCCUUACCACUCAAACCAGUAGGCUCAUUCCGAUAUAAAUUAACAAACAAUAUUAUAUAAACCACUUGGACCAAAAAUAACAAAAUUAUCAACAGUGAGACUUGAACCCAAGACGUCAUAUACACACACCUAAAAUACUUAACUACUGAAGCAAAUACACACUUAUAUUAGAUACUUACAGAAACAUAAAUAAAUUUAUCAUGGCGUUAGAAAACUCCCCAUUUGCAAUCGAAGUAACUAUAAGAUUCCCCUGAUUGUAUAACUUUUAUAAAAUAAAAACAUUUUAAACCUUGAUAAACAAGCUGAAAUAACAAAGCAGAAAAAGAACACCAAAAAUCUAAAUUAUAUCUAAAAAGAAAGUCAACUCAGUUUUUCAACUAACUUAAAAUUGAUAUUAAGGAAAGAGAGCAUCUGGUCAAAGGUAAACUGUAGAAGGAAAAGAGAUGUAAAUUGUUAUCUUGAUAGAAUAUAUAAACAUAUUAAAAUUUUGAUAACUAAAUGAAAAAUUUUGUGAAUAUUUGUUGAAUUUUUUAGAUUAAAGAUGAAAUUGAUAGGAUGUGUAAACAUUGAGAGGUUAAAAUAACAAAUUUUGAGAUAUAAAUUUAUUGAAUAUUUUUAGAUUUAAGAUUAAAUUGAUAGAAUGUAUAAAUGAUGAAAGGCUAAAUUUGUUACUAGGUGAAUAUAAAAAACAUUUGUUAAACUUCGGUUACUGAGUUAAAGUUGAGUUACGGUCAAAUAACUUGUGAGUGACUAAAAUGUUUAAUUUUUAAAAGUUGAGUGAUUGAAUUGAAAAAAAAUAAUAGUUGGGUGACCAAAAUAAAACUAAGUGUAUAGUUAGUUGACUAUUCUUAUAAUUUAACCACAUUUUUAAAAAAAAAAUUAGGGAAAAAUGUAUAAUAGUUUUAGAACUGGAUCCAUUCGUAGAGGUGCAAAACUAAAAUAAUUUUCAACCAUUGCAUAAUUUUUUAUAUAAUUAAUGUUUUAACAAUCCAACCAUUAUAUUUUAUUUUCCAUUUAUAUAGAUCAUACAUAUUAAAUUUUACAUAAAUUAGAAAUUUCAACCUAAUAUAUGUUAAUAUGAACAAUAUUUUACAAUGAGCUGUGAUAUGAUUGCUCACUUUAUCUCUCAACCAUGUAAUUGGGGGUUUGAUCCCCACUCAUUGGAAUUAAACAUAUUUUAUGGCUAACCAUUUAUUUUUUGGAAGAGCACUCAUGACAAGGAGAUUAAUUACUACUACUGGUAGAUAUUUUAUAUCGAUAUGAUAAAGAUAUCGAAUUGAUUCAAAAUUAUACACAAAUAUAAAUAUCUUGAUAAAUUCAAUUGUUGAAUUGUUAAAACAUUAAUCGUAUAAUAAAAUAUUAAUUGUGAAAGUAUUUAAAAAUACUGGUGUAAGUCCAACCCUUUCCUAUUUACAUAGAUUAUUACAUUAAAUUAAAUACUUACAUUUUAUUAUGAAAUAUUGUAAUAUUUUAGUUUCAAAUAAUUAUCGUGUAUGCUGGAAAAAAUUAGAACAGAAAAAAGGUGUAUAUAUUUAUCAACUAUUUGAUAUGCCAAUGCAUUCUUAAUAUCUGGACUUGAUGCAGGGACGUCAUGUUGGUGGUGAAGCCAGUAACGAGAUCAAUUUUAGCUAAAGUGGUUAAAGGCGCCAUUGUCAGACCACUUACCAGGACUCUGAAUUACCACAUAAAUUUCGAUAAAUAUGUGAAAGAAUUCGAAGACGCUGAACGUAUUUUGGUAGACCAACUGAAAGAUAUUGAAGCUCAAAAGCAAGAACAGCUUCGUUAUGUGGGAAGAAUGUUAGCGCCUGAAGUUGAAGUUUGGCUAAAACGUGCACGGAUGGUUCUUAAUGACGCCCAAUAUGUUACAGAUGAGAUCAGGAAAGGGAAAUAUAUGUUGCGUUCUAUUGUAGGGAAGCAUGUUGUAAGACUAACUCUGGAAAUGAAGGAUUUGUGUGAACAUGGUUCGUUUGAGAGGAUGUCGUCUUAUGCUGCUUCCUCUGCAAUGACUUCAUUGCCAACAACUGAUAUUGUAGGUAUUUCUCGUGAAGAGGAAAUUUGCAAUUAUUUGAUGAAGCAGGAAGUUAGAAUGCUUGGAGUGUGGGGGAUGCCUGGACUCGGGAAAACCACCAUAAUGAAGCAUAUUUACAAUAAAUUGAUGGAAGGCAAUAAAUUUAGUAAAAUGAUUUGGAUAACGGUAUCCGAAGGUGCUGAUAUCCGUAGGCUACAGAACGACAUUGCACGCAUAUUAAGUAUUGACUUGUCAGAUGAUGAGGAUACAAAUGUACGUGCAAAAAAGCUAUAUGAAGAGCUGAUGAAAACAGGGAGCUACCUAUUAAUACUUGAUGAUGUAUGCCAGAGGAUUUCUCUUGAGGAUGUUGGAAUCCCUAAGCCAUCUGCAGAUAAUGGACGCAAGAUAGUAGUGACAACGCGUGACAGAAAGGUUAUUCAAAAGAUGAGUUGUAAGGCAGUCGAAGUGCGGUUUCUUUCUGAUGAUGAGUCCUUCCAGUUACUCUUAAGCAAAGUUGGAGAAGAUGUGUUGGCUGAUCCAACCAUAAAACCAAUUAUGAAAGCUAUACUUAAGGAAUGCGGUGGUCUUCCGCUCAAAAUUGUCACAGUAGCUAGUUCAUUGAAAGGAGUACUUGAUCGUGAUCGUUGGGUGCAUGCAUUAGACCAGUUGAAAAGAAGCAGAGAUUUACUGAAAACCAGAUAUGAUGAUCUAGCAGGAACAGAUAAAGAUUGUUUCUUACACAGUGCACUAUAUCCUGCAGACUAUGCAAUCCCAAAAGAGGAUAUUAUUGAAUAUUGGAUAGAAGAAGGACUUGUAGAUGAAAUGGAGAGCAGAGAAGAAAGGAAGAGUAAGGGCCAUGCUUGUUUGCAAAGGAUUUUAGACAGUAGCUUGCUACUAGGGGCCGAUGGCAAGAACAUUGUAAUGACGAGUAAAGCCGGGAGAGAUAUGGCACUAUCUUUGAUAGCAAAAGAGUUUCCGUGUUUUGUGAAAGCUGGUAUGAAAUUGAAGGAGCUACCAAAUGAACUAGAAGAGGCUCUAGAUAUAAAGAAGGUUUCCUUGAUGGAGAAUUUCAUAUCUAAAAUACCUCCAGAAAUUUCUCCAAAGAGUAAAAAGCUCACGACCUUGUUAUUGUCAGGUAAUGCCUUGGAAGAAAUCCCUGAAUCUUUCUUCACCCAUAUGCAAGCACUCAAGUAUCUUGACCUUUCUAGAAAUCCAUUCAAAAUUUUGCCAAAUUCCAUCUCAAAUUUGGAGAAUCUGACUGCAUUACUUCUUUCGGAAUGCAAAAAUUUAGAGGAGGUUCCAUCUUUAUCAAAACUUCUAGCUUUAAAGAAGUUGAACCUUGAAAAAACAAGAAUCAAAGAGGUUCCUCAAGGUAUGGGAUUCUUGGUAGAUCUAAGGUAUCUCAAUCUUAGAUUCAUCUCGUGUUUAGAAGAGAUCCCGCAAGGUCUUUUGCCGAAACUCCAACGUCUUCAACACUUGGCAAUACAUCCAACACUGUCAAGAGCAAAGGAGAUAAUGGAAUUGAACAAGUUGGAAAAUUUUGAAGGUAGGUUUGCUGAUCUGCAAGACCUAAGCAAAUAUGUUGACUUUCUUCGGAAACAAAGUCAAAGGACCAUCAAGUACUUCAUUUUGGUGGGCAAGACUGUUGAGUAUAAGUUACGUUCUUGUACCAACUCUGUCAUAGUAAAAGAUUGUAACACCGAAGGCAGUCAUGUGCUUCCUUGGGAUGUCGAGGAAUUCGGAAUUGAGAAGUGCAAUAACUUGAGCAGCUUAAAUGGAGUUUCUGGACUGCAAGAGGCAACCCUUUUGAAAAAAUGCAGAAUUGAGGAAUGUGAAAGACUGGAGUCUGUUUUUUCCUCUAGCUGUCCACCACUUAAAAGCCUCGAGUCCCUAGUUCUUCGGCAUUUGAAGAAUCUGAAUGUCCUAGUUGCAUAUCCAGAACCAUUCCUCCAUGCCUUUUCCUCUCUUAAAGUACUUUUCUUAGUUAAAUGUCCGAAAAUAAAGAUUCUGUUCUCAACUAAGCUGCGGCUGCUACAACAUCUCAUCAACUUGGAACAAGUCAUUAUUUGGGGUUGUGAUCAAAUGGAGCAAAUAAUAGAAGAAGAAGAAGAAGAAGAAAUCCUUAGCGAUGCCACUGAAUUUACCUUUCCAAAAUUAAAGGAACUGGGAUUAUGGCAUCUACCAGAAUUGAAGAGCAUUUGCAGCACCAAAGGAGUAAUGCUUUGUAAAUCUCUCCAAAAGCUAGAGAUAUGGAAUUGUCCCAAGUUAAAGAGGAUUCCUCUGAAGCUGGAUAUUUCCUUUGAGAAUGGCAAAGUAUUUCACCAUCCUCCUCUAAAAGACAUCAAGAUGAAAUCAAAUGAAUGGAAAUCCAUCGAGUGGGACCAUCCCGAUGCUAAAAAAGCCCUUUUACCAUUAGUGAGGAUCAUGUAGCAGUAUCUUAUAGUGGAGUCAAUGAUCCAAGGCAAGCCCUGUCAUCUCCCUUACAAUUUAAAUGGUUCCAACUUAAUUUCUUCUAUUUAUACUUUAACAUUUAUGUUGUUUUCAGCUUUUCAUAACUCUCUACAUCACUGGCAUCAGAAGCAAACUCCAGGCCGAGUGGAGAAACAGAACUCUUGAACCAAAAAGAAAUAAAGUUGCAUGGCUUGAACCAUGACUAUGGAUUGCAUCGAUCAUCUUUCUGUAUUGUAAUUUAUUUUUAUCAUCCCGACUUUAGUCUUUAAUGCUAGUUUGUAUUUGUUUGGAACCUUUUUUUUCUUUUUCUUUUUUUUUUUGUGAAGCUCUAUUCGUUCCCUGGAAAAGGGUCUUUAUGUUGUAGCAUCUGAACAAGAAAUUAUGCUUCUGUUUGUACAAGUUCAGUUGAAGUUGGUACGGUAACUUUAUACCAGAACCAUUGUCUUCAAUUUUCGUAUACCAGUUGAUUUCCUUCGCAGAAAGUAAUAUGACUUUCUGAAUGUUCUUAUAUUUUUGUUAUUUGGUAUAAUGAUAUAUUUUACUCUUCAAUUUUAUAAAAAAUAUCAUUUUAGUUAUUAAUUUAAUUUUUCCUUUAUUUUAAUCUUUGAAUUUGUGUUUUUUUAAUCAAAUCACUCUAAAUUAGAUGAAAAAGUUAAAUUACCAUCCUUCAGUAUCCAUGAAAAUUACUGUCUUGUUGGGCCUCCUUCACCAGCGAAAAUCAUAAGAAUGGACCAAAAAUUACGGUUUAGAUAGCCAUGCACUAUGCAUUAUAAAUUGCUUUCUUCUUCUUCUUCUUCUACCAAAUGCUAUCAUGGCCUUAUAUGCAUGCUUGAUAUUUUGAGUAAACCAUGUAUACCUGCCUAACACUUUCUCACCUUGACAUUGACAUGCAUUAUCUUGCAUGCGUUUCAUGUGAUUACGUGUUCUUUUUAAUGCAAUUUUAAAUUUCUUGCAUUAUGAAAUUCAAAAUAUUUUCCACGUCUUUUAUUUAUCCAUGACUAAAGAUUAUAAGUUCUGAUCAUAUUUGUUAUUUUUAAGAUAAUGCCUAGAGCUAUCCAUAGUCUAUUCUCAACCCAUAAAUAGGAGGAUAAUACGCUUUAGUGCACUCAAACUCACGUUCUCCUGUAUUGACAACAAUGCUCAUGCCAAUCAAGUUAAGACUCAAUCAACUUCAAUAGGUGUCUUUUUUGAAUAAUCACAUUUCUUAAAUAAAUAUAGUUAUUCAAGAGAUACAACUAUUCAAGUAAUAUGUCAUAAAUAAAUAUAACUAUUCAAGUGAUAUUACUUGAAUAGUUAUAAUUCUUUGUUAAAAAAUCAAGUGAUAUAACUCUUCAUAUUUAACAAACAUAAUAACUAUUCAAGUGAUAUUGCUUGAAUAGUUAUAAUUCUUUGUUAAAAAAUCAAGUGAUAUAACUAUUCAUAUUUAACAAACAUAACUCAUUAUUAGAUCUGAUCAUGGGCCAAGCCAUCUACCCAUGCCCAAUAGCUCGCCUAAAAAGUGAGAGAGUUAAGGCAAAUAUAUAGGCUUAAAAAAUGGAUUUAAACAAAAAAAAGGCUUGUUUAGAAAAUAGGCAAGCCUUAGGCAAUAUUUUCUUUGCCCGAGCCUAGCCUGAAUUUGACAAAAAAUUUGUUGUUAUUUGCUUUUGUUUACUGUUGUUAUGUUGUUAUUUUGCUACCAUUCACUAUUAUAUUGCUACUAUUUUAUUGUUAUUGUUUGGAUAUUUUAUUACUCUUAUUUUAUUAUUAUUUUUGUUAUUAUUUUAGAGGUAUUUGUUUGUUAAGUUGCAGCCAUGUUAGUUUUAUUUUUUAUAUGUAUUUUCAAUUUGUUGAAAAACAUUUAUUUUAAUGUUUUUUACCUAUUUGAUGUAUUAUAUUUUUUAAACUUAUUUUUAUAUAAAAAAAAUAAUGCAAGCGGGUUGAGCUAGGCUUAGGUUUAGUAUUUUUAUCCAGAUUGGGCUUGAGCAAAAAUUUAAACUCAUUUUUUCGGGUCAGACCAAGCUCGGGUCUAAAAACUGGGCUUGCUUUUUUGUAUUGACCCGGUCUAGCCCAUGAUCAGCUUUACUCAUUAUUUAAGAAUAGUCAUAACUCUAUUAAGAACUAAAAAUUAUAACCUUCAAUUACAUACAAUUUUUCGUUUAUAGUUAUUGAAACAUCAUAAAUAUUUGGAAAUGUUCCAAUAAUAGGACAAAAGAUUCAUCCUAGAUGACAUGGUAUCAUGAUCCAGAGUAAAUUUACUUACUAACGCGAGAUGGAGGCUAACUUUCAAAACCUCAAAAGCUUAAGCUUUGUCUUAAGAGUUGACGUUACCGAAUUGGUUCUCCAAGGCAAAUUCUUUCAAACUCAAGGUGAUAAUCUAGGUUUGAGCAACUCAUGCGUUUUCAAGUUCAACUUCAACAAUCAAACUGAACCUGAUGACAGAUUUAAGCAACCUGCGUACCCUCAUUCUGUUCUAAAAGUAUCUAUUUGUUCAAAUCCAAUCUCAAUUUAACUCUUUACAACAGCUAUUUCCAGGCUAUAUUAAUGACAUAAUUCUCAGAGCGAUGGAAGUCAAAAUUCUAAAAAUACAAAGCAACCAACUAAAUUAGUAGAUUUGUUGAUGGUCAAACUAUCAAAUUAAAUCGAAUAUUUGUUCGAAAUAUGAUACCUGGAAUGUGGGCUUAGGGAAAAAACUCAAAAUCCUAUCAUAUAUCCAUUUCAGCCUUUGCCUUCAUUUCCACUUUCAAUCAUUUUCAUGUCCACCUUCAACCAUCAGCCAUCACUCACCAUUGCUUAAGCUAUUUUGCAGUUUAGACCAUAAAUUACUGAGUUGAAAACUGUAGUGUCGUUCUGCAGCCCUUUUUGUUUCAGGCUGAAAACUGUAGUGUCGUUCUGCAGCCUUUUUUGUUCCAGGCAGGGCAGGCUGGGCUCAAAAUUUGGGUCGACCUUAAAUAAAACAUUUAAACCCGUAUUUCAUAUUACGCAAGUGUUAAGUUUAGUUCCCAUGCAAAGGUGGCCAUGCACGACAUGCAAAGGUGGUCAUGCUUCUGGAAUCGCAGCAGGCAGUGGUGCCAUGGUGUGCAGCAAGCUGAAGCUAUCCAUUUAGUUUCCUUAAUUGAAUGUUUUGUAUUUAGUUAGGAUCAAACUUAGUUGGUAGCUGCAUUUUGAUGUAAUUAGGUGCUGAAUGACAAGUUUAGGUAGAAGCUUUUUGUUUUUCAAUCAAGUUUACCAAGUUACUAGGCAAUUUAGUGGUGUUAGGUAUGUUAUUAGGUGAUUACUUGUUUGUUUUACUUGUUGACUGAUAUAUGUAAUGGCUUAAUGCCUUGUUGGCUUGCUUAAUGAAAGAUAUCAGCUCAUUUUCAUUCAAUCUUUUUCUCUCUUUUUCUGUUUUUCACUUGCUAGCUUCAUCUUUCUGUUUUCUGCUUCUGAGUUUGCUUCUUCACCAAGCCUCGAGGCUUACUACUCAAGCAAGACUAGAAACAGCUUGCUGCUGCCUCUUGCACCAACAAUUGGUAUCGAGAGCUCUUGUCUUAGUGGACCUGUUGCUUCAAAACAAAGAACUUGAUGGCUUCUUCAGGAUUUUCACCAGCAGCCCCACCAGUCUUCAAUGGAGAAGGCUUUCACAUAUGGCUGGUCAAGAUGAAGACUUACCUACAGGCCUUCGAUCUGUGGGAAGUUGUCAACACAGAUACUGAGCCAGCACCACUGAGGGCUAAUCCCACAGUAGCUCAGAUUAGGCAACAUGCUGAUGAGAGGACCAAAAGGCACAAAGCCAUGUCCUGCAUCCAGAACUGUGUGUCAGAUGUCAUCUUCACCAGAAUUAUGGCCUGUGAGACUCCAAAACAGGCCUGGGAUAAGCUCAAAGAGGAGUUUCAAGGCACUGAGAGAACAAGGCAACAGCAGCUGUUAAACUUGAGAAGGGAUUUCGAGAAUUUGAAGAUGAAGGAAGAAGAAACAGUGAAGCAGUACUCAGAUAGAAUUAUGGCAGUGGUUAACAGCAUAAGGCUCCUAGGUGAGCACUUUGAUGAGGCAAGAAUUGUGGAGAAAGUCCUCUCCACUUUGCCUGAGAGAUAUGAGGCCAAGAUAUCCUCUCUAGAGGACUCAAGAGACCUUGCUAGCAUCUCUUUGACUGAGCUAAUCAACACCUUUUAUGCUCAGGAACAAAGAAGAGCUAGCAGAGCUGAAGAUCACCAAGAAGGUGCAUUUCAAGCCAAGGCCAGAGAAACCUCGAGCACUAAUGCUCAAAGAGGCAAAAGGCCUUGGAAAAACAGGCCUAAGCCUGAUGCUGCAAGGAGCAAUGACCAGCCCUGCAGAUAUUGCAAGAAGCCUGGCCAUCCAUAAGACAGAUGCUGGUUUAGGCCAGAUGCAGUAUGCCAACACUGCAAGAAGAAGGGCCAUGUUGAAAGGGUCUGCAAAAACAGAAGUAAGCCAAGGCAGAAUCAAUUUCAGCAGUCAAAGGUUGAAGCUCGAGUAGCUGAGGACAGUAGUGACCAAGAAGAACAGGUCUUUGCUGUUUCCUGUGUAGCUUCUGAGAAGAAAUGCUCUAAAGGCUGGUUGCUGGACAGUGGUUGCACUAACCACAUGUCACCAGAUGCCUCCUUGUUUAAAACCUUGGACAAAAGUUAUAAAACCAAGGUCAAGGUUGGAAAUGGUCAGUUUAUAAGGGCUGAAGGAAGAGGAGAAGUGCUGAUAUGUACUCCCACAGGCAACAAGAUCAUUCCAAAUGUGCUGUUGGUACCACAGAUUGACAGAAACCUUCUCAGCAUAGCUCAACUGCUCGAGAAAGGUUAUUCUGUUGUGUUCAAGGAUAAACAAUGCCAUAUUACUGAUCCAAGUGGAUCAAGCCUUAUGACAGUCACAAUGACUGAUAAAUGCUUUGAGGUUCACUGGGCAAAUGACUCAAACUCAGCAUACACAGCCUCUGUUGAAGACUCCAAGCUUUGGCAUCAAAGGCUUGGACAUGCCAACUUCAGAUCAAUGGCUCGAUUGGCCAAAGAGGGCUUGGCAGAGAACUUCAUCAGCUCAGUGGAGCAUGAUGAUGUGUGUGAAGUUUGCCAAAUGGGGAAACAGGCAAGACUGCCAUUUCCUACAAAUUCAGCUUGGAGAGCUACUGAAAGACUGCAGCUGGUGCACUCUGAUGUAUGUGGCCCGAUGAGGACUGAAUCACUCAGCAAAAAUAGGUAUUUCAUCCUCUUUAUUGAUGACCUUACAAGGUUUUGCUGGAUUUUCUUUUUAAAACACAAGUCUGAGGUAGCUCAAGUGUUUGUGAAGUUUAAAAAUGCUGUAGAAACAGAAACAGGUUGCAAGCUGAAAUCGAUAAGGACUGAUAAUGGCACUGAGUACACUUCAGCUCAGUUUCAAGCCAUUUGCAAUGAUGCUGGUAUCAAACAUCAGCUUACAAAUGUCUACACACCUCAGCAGAAUGGGGUAGCUGAAAGAAAGAAUAGAAGUCUGAUGGAUAUGGCCAGAUGUCUGCUGUUUGAGAAGAAACUGCCCAAGACCAUGUGGGCUGAGGCAGUAAACACUGCUGUUUACCUUCAGAACAGGCUUCCUACUAAAGCUCUUGCAUCCGAGACACCUUUCGAGGCUUGGUCUGGUUUCAAGCCUUCCUUAGCACAUCUGAAGGUGUUUGGUUGCCUGUGUUAUGCACAAAUACCAGCAGCAAAGAGAGACAAGCUCUCUAAAAGGGCUCAACCAGGUGUUCUAGUAGGCUACAGCUCAGUCAAGAAGGGCUACAGGGUUCUGGAUCCCUUGAUAAACAAAGUCCAGGUGAGUAGAGAUGUCAUCUUUGAUGAAAAAGCCUGCUGGAAUUGGGAGAAAAAUGAGCCAGAAGCAGUUUCAGAAGACCUAGUGCCUAACCAAGCUGAACUUGAGCAGCUAGGACCUGAAAUGGAUGUUGAUGAUGUGCCUGUGAGAGGCACAAGGCCCCUAGAUGAUAUUUAUGAAAGGGCACAGGUUGCAAUAGCAGAACCUAGCAGUUUUGAAGAGGCUGAGGCAGAUGAAGGCUGGAAACGAGCUAUGAUCAAUGAAAUCAACAUGAUUGAAAAGAACCAGACAUGGGAGCUUGUUGAUAAACCUGCUGGAAAGAAGACCAUUGGAGUAAAAUGGGUCUAUCGAGUAAAACAGAAUGCAGAUGGCAGUCUGAACAAGCUAAAAGCCAGGCUUGUUGUCAAAGGAUUUAGCCAAAGGUAUGGUCUGGACUACCUGGAGACAUUUGCACCAGUAGCCAGGCUUGACACAGUUAGAAUGAUAGUUGCCUUGGCUGCUCAACAUCAGUGGACCAUUCAUCAGCUUGAUGUUAAGUCUGCAUUUCUCAAUGGCUUCCUGGAAGAAGAGAUCUACAUCGAGCAGCCUCAAGGAUUUGUGAUCACUGGCAAAGAACACAUGGUGUACAGACUGAAAAAGGCUUUAUAUGGCCUGAAACAGGCUCCUCGAGCCUGGUAUGCUCGAAUUGACUCUUACUUGCUCAGUUUGGAAUUUGAAAGAAGUCCCAGUGAACCAACACUGUAUGUGAAGAAGAACCAAGCUCAAACUCAGCUUAUUCUGUCACUCUAUGUUGAUGAUCUAUUGAUAACUGGAGGAGAUGGAAGAAUGCUGGAAGAUUUCAAAAGAAAAAUGAUGGAAAUGUUUGAAAUGUCUGAUUUAGGCAGAAUGAACUACUUCCUUGGAAUGGAAGUGAACCAAACAGAAAAGGGAAUCUUUCUUUGUCAGAGUUCUUUUACUAUGAAGAUCCUGGACAAGUUCUCUAUGAAGAACUGCAAGCCAACAAGCACACCAAUGGCUGUUGGAGUGAAGCUUUCGAGGCAAGGGAGUGGUGAACCAAUUUGUGAGACCAUGUACAAGAGUCUCAUUGGUAGUCUGUUGUAUUUGACUGCCACAAGGCCCGAUAUCAUGUUUGCUGUUAGUGUGCUAUCAAGAUACAUGAAUUGCUGCAAUGAUCAGCACUUUCGAGCAGCUAAAAGAGUGCUGAGAUACAUCAAAGGCACCAUUGGUCAUGGUGUAUUGUUCAAAAGGGCCAAAAACAUGAAGUUAAUAGGCUAUGUUGAUAGUGACUGGGCUGGAUCAAGUGAUGACAUGAGAAGCACAUCCGGAUAUGCAUUCAGUCUUGGCUCAGGCAUGUUUUGCUGGAGUUCUAAGAAACAAAGUCUGGUGGCACAGUCAACAGCAGAAGCUGAAUAUGUUGCUGCUGCAUCUGCUGUGAACCAAGCCAUAUGGCUUAGAAAAAUCUUGACUGAUUUAAACCAAAACCAAAAGGAGGCAACAAAGAUUUAUUGUGACAACAAAUCUGCUGUUGCAAUUGCAAAAAAUCCCAUUUUUCAUGGCAGAACCAAGCACUUCAAUAUUAAGUUGCAUGUUAUAAGGGAGAUGGAACAAGCUCAUGAAAUCGAGCUGAUUCAUUGCAAUUCAGAAGUGCAAAUUGCUGAUAUCUUCACAAAGGCACUCAAUGUGUCUAAAUUUGUUAAAUUCAAAAGGGAAUUAGGUGUUACUAGCAUGGAAACUAAGGAGGAGUGUUAAGUUUAGUUCCCAUGCAAAGGUGGCCAUGCACGACAUGCAAAGGUGGUCAUGCUUCUGGAAUCGCAGCAGGCAGUGGUGCCAUGGUGUGCAGCAAGCUGAAGCUAUCCAUUUAGUUUCCUUAAUUGAAUGUUUUGUAUUUAGUUAGGAUCAAACUUAGUUGGUAGCUGCAUUUUGAUGUAAUUAGGUGCUGAAUGACAAGUUUAGGUAGAAGCUUUUUGUUUUUCAAUCAAGUUUACCAAGUUACUAGGCAAUUUAGUGGUGUUAGGUAUGUUAUUAGGUGAUUACUUGUUUGUUUUACUUGUUGACUGAUAUAUGUAAUGGCUUAAUGCCUUGUUGGCUUGCUUAAUGAAAUAUAUCAGCUCAUUUUCAUUCAAUCUUUUUCUCUCUUUUUCUGUUUUUCACUUGCUAGCUUCAUCUUUCUGUUUUCUGCUUCUGAGUUUGCUUCUUCACCAAGCCUCGAGGCUUACUACUCAAGCAAGACUAGAAACAGCUUGCUGCUGCCUCUUGCACCAACAGCAAGCUUGAGCAAAAAUAACAGUUAGCAAUACCUUGUCUAAGCCUGGGCCAAAUCCGGCCUAUCAGAUAAAGCAUUCAGAUUGAACUACCGGUAACAUUAUGAGUUUAUGGUCCAUCCUUCAUGGGGAUGCAAAGAACAAAAUUAGCUAACUUUUGCCACUAUAGAAUGUUUGUUCAACUAAAUAAAAUAAAGAUUGUCCUAUAAUUCUAGUUCCAUUCAAGUUAAAACUUCUUCAGGCAAGAUAAUAGUAACAUAAUGCUAAAAGAACCAGCACAACCACCACAGCAGGAGCCGCCCAUAUCCAAUAGUUCGUCGACUUCUUACGUUUUAGUAUGGCUUUUGGGAGGGACUCGGUUCUUUUGGUUUGAUUCCUGUACCUACUAGUAUUCUCCUUUGGUACUUUACCCUUCAUUGAAACGGUAGCAGGAACAGGUGCAUCAGCAUUAACAUCGACCUUCUCGGGUUCUGAAUCUUGUGCCACAGCUUCAAUCAGUUCCUCGGGAUUCACAGCAUUUGUCGAUCCUGCCACCUUCUUCUUAGCUCUCUUUUCACGCUCCCGAAAAAGAUCGAAAGAGUUUCAGUUUCAACCCACAAACUAAUGACCGACAAAGCGAAACCAGAUAAGGAAGCGAAUGAUUUCCUUGAGCUUCUUUUCAGCUUCCAUUUGGGCUCUUCUAGCUGCUUUGGCUGCUGCUUUUUCAGCCAACUUCUUUUUUUCUUUCCAUGGCUUGCUUUGCUUUCGCUAUUUCCUCUUCUCUCUUCAAUUCUUUUGGUUUUGCUGCAUCGACUUCCUUGUUCUUUUGCAAUUUUCCGGAUACCAAAAUUUCCUCUGCUACAACACUAAUAUCUGACAAAGGAUUUGACUCCAUUGCUAUAGUCUCGGCAUCUUUUGGGGCCUUUUUGGCUAGUUUAGUAUCUGGUUGGGGACCUGAUUUGGCCUCUUCCUUUGGUUGUCUUACACUAGGUCUCAGGAUUGUUUCGGUUUCAGAAUCCACUGGUCUCUCGGGUGCAACCAGUGGUUUCUCAUCAGGAUUCCUUAUCCGACCAUCCCGACUCAAUAGCCGACUGUCCAGGGAUAGCAGAAUUCUUUUCUCAUAAUCAUCCCUGAAGGCUUUAUUGCCAUUCCAGAGAGCCAUAAACUUCUCAACCUAAAAGGAAUAUAAAAGAUAAGUGAGCGGCUAAUUAUAAAGCAAAUGAGAUACAUUGGAAGUAACAUUAACAAGCAGUCUGUUGAAAGCUGGACUGCAAUGCAACAUGGAGCCAGAAGCAUGCUACUGUCGAGACCCGCAGCUAUCGAGCUCAGCUCAUUUUACUUGGCGCGCACGAAUGGUUUUUGGACCAAAUGAAGCAACUGACAUUGCUGUUUUGUUUUGAUGUAAUUUAGUUUAGUUCAACUUUAACUAGUUUCCAAAGUUAGUUGGAUUAAGUUUGUGAUUGGAUUGAUGAUGUAAAAGCUGAUAUGUCAGCUUAUUUUGUAUUUGACUUAAGCUUGUAUUAGUUUAGUUUAAGUGGGAGCAGUUAUGUCAUUAGGUAACUGUCAAAUGAAUCAAAAUUUGUAACUCUUUUAUAUAUUCAAAUUUUGAAUGAAAAUUGGUAAUGUUCAGUUACAACUUUGCUGAGUAUUCAAUUUUGUUCAUUGCUUUGCUUUUUCUUUGCUUCGAUUCUUCUUGCUUCAGUCUUACAAAUACAGUUCUGUAACUCUGUUUGAUGUUUGCUGCUGCCUUUGUUCCAACACAGUCUCAACAAACCUCCACAAUUGAUAACUCCUCAAGAGCCUUUAUAUCUUUUUGUGCAGCAAGCAGUUUGGCGUUGUGUACAAUGGUACGGCUCUGGUAAAAGUGAGAAUUCUGAAAUUUUGAGAAAGAAAGUAAUUAAAACGAUUCAUUAGUAACAUCAUGCACAGUAAUAUCUUAAGUGCCACUAGUUAUUCAUGCAUAAAUGAAAAUGUUCCAACAUGGUCAAGUAUAUAUACGAAACAGAUAUCUUAAGAGUUGAAGCAAAGAAAAGGCGAUACCCCCUGAUCACUUUGUUUCCUCAGCUCCUGAAUGUUUUCAAAAGCUUUGUCCCUCUUCAGGGCCACAGCUUUCAGCUCAUUUUGUAAAGACUCGAUUUUAGUCUCAGUUUCAUCCAAUUUAUCUUUAAUUUGCUUUUUCUUGGACCAGAUUGCAUGCUGCUCCUUCCUUACUCCAUUCAAAUCGACACCCAUAAGCUACAAUAAACAAAUAUAGCAAAUUUUUUUAGUGUAACACAAUGGUGCUCUAUAUUCACAGAUAAAAAGUGGAGCAAACUCCGAUGGAUAAAUAGAAUUAUCUUACUUUAACUUGAUCUUGAAUGUCUUCUUUCUGGCCUAAUGAAUCUUGAAUCUUUGAUCUCAUUGCAGCAUUAGCAAUAACUUUCUCGCGGGUUCCCUCCAGGUGUUUGAUUUCUUUAAGGAUUCGCUUCUCCUCAGUCAACGAGAUGCUUUCAUGCUGAAUGCGAUAUUGCAAGCUAUGAAUCUGCAAUUCAUAAAUUCCAUUGAAGUGACUAAAGGAGAAAAAGAAAAGCAUUAACUGCGGCAGAAAACAAUGAAUAAAUCUAAAUGCAGUCAAAGUUUAUAGAAGUAUCAUACAAUAAAACCGAGCUCUUCCUCAGAUGCACAUAAACUAAGUCGAUUAUCAACAUCUUUAUUUUGCGAAGCUUGCCUAAAGCCUGCUGCAGUGGUUCUAUUUCCAUCUUUUUCUCAUCUAAAAUCGUCUUAAAUUGCUCAAAAUCAACAUUCAGCGCUCUCACUUGCGAAAGCAUAUCUGACCGUUCUGCCUGCAUUAGCAUAAAGAUAAUCACAAUUUAGCCAACUGACGGCGCCAUUAUUUUUUACUUCUUUCACAUUUUUUCUCAAAUUCUGAAGGCAAACACAACAAUAACGAAUCAUUAUACCAAUAGGAUAUCUGUAAGUGUCAUUACGUUUCAAGGACAUAAAUUUCAAACAUUCAAAUAAAUGCUUCCGGGUUUAAUUCCCCUACAUUCAUCAUAUUACAAUAAGCACACCGUAAUGACAUAAUGAUAGGGCUAAUAAUUAUCUUAAAAGUAUGACAAUUAAUGGCUACCAUGCUAUACAUCUAAUUGAAAUUAUUAACUUUUCACUCACCCUUUUUGCUUUUAAUUCGUCGGUAAGCUUAAACCGGCUUUAUUCCACUUUUGUAUCUCUUUAUCAGCCUGAUCAAGUUUGGCUUUUAUAGCCGGAUCUUCGUAGAAGCGAUACCUAAUAAAAUGAAAAGAGUGGAUCUGCUUAGGUGCAGGCCACUCGACGACCGCAUCCUUCGGAAAGUCGGGAUCGGAUGCACCAUUCUCUUCUCCUUAUCAGGUUCCUCACUAUGUGAAUCAACUUCAAUGGGGUUAUUAUAAACUGGAUCCUUAUCCAGUUUCCCAUUUUCAUGAAGAAAUGAUUUGUCUACUUCAGUCACUUUGUCAAUAGACAAUUGUGCCAGGUCUGAAUCAACAACCUCAACACCCAUUAAACACAAAAUUGAGCUACCUGAAAACAUCCAAAGACAAAGAUUAUGACACCAUAUAACAACAAAUAUAAAUAUAAAAUAUUAUUUCAUUCAUAAAAUAAAAAUUUUAAAACAGACACCUGAUAGACAUGUAUAAAACAAUAUAUAUUAAAUAAAUAAAUUUUAAAGAACAGUGUAGCCAAUACAAUUUGAAAUGGUGCAAUCUAAAGUCAUUCCUUUAGCUAGUUUUCUCAUUAAUCAGAUCAAAAGAGUGAACAAACAGUAGAAUUGCAAAAAUAUAUGUAUAUAUUCUAAAUAAAUGAUAAACUAUAAUGGAGAAAAACAAUAAUCAGAUAAAAUCUAGAUCAAAAACUAAAUUAUAAGAACAUUAGCUCAUGCUAUAACAAAAGAUCAAGCCUUUAUCCGUCAAGAAAAUUAACAUGCAAAAUCAUAUGACACCAAUGGAAAAGAAGGAAAAAAAACCCAGAAAUUUACAAACAUGAGAUAAAAUGAAAAACAAACAAAAAAAACCCAGAAAUAAAAACACGAGAAAUAAUUAUGUAGUUUGUAAGCCCAGAAAGUUUAUAUUUUUAAAAUGAAAACGUCAAAAUAGGAUGUUUUUGUUGUCGAGAGAGGCAUAGAUACAAAGGUUCUGAGAUUCUGGAUAAAAAAAAAAACUUCAACUUUUUUUAUUUUACAUUGGCAUAAUGCCCAAAUUUUAUAAAUUCUAGUUGUUAAACAUGUCAAGUAAUUUGAUUUGGUAUGGUGGUUAAGUGCCUUGAAUGUUUGCUUUAGGUCUUGGGUUUAAAUUUAUUUUGUUAAAUUUACCCUAUUUAUUAUGGUAUUAUGUUCAACUUGAGCCUUAGGGCUUCUCUUAUUUUCAAUGAUGAAUCUAAUGAUUCACUGGUAAGAUUUUAGCUUAUCACUAAUUAAAAUUUAUAAAAUCUGGUAAGUGGAAUUUAGAUUAACAUAAAAAUUUUUAUUUAUUUAUUUUAAUUUAAUUUUACUAAAUCUCUAUUUUCACUCAUUGUUUCAACCGUUCACACUCUCACCCCACUUUGUACGCUACUUUCUUUUGUUUCCCUAUUCUACCGUUUUAUCUUCUUUUCUCUUCCUUCUUUCUCCUCUUUGAUUGUUCCUGAAUAAUACCGUUUAUUUUAUGAGUUCUAUCACUUGGAUCGUAUUCUGUUUGCAGUGUAAGUUUCAUUUGGUUACUUUUGUUCUCUUCCCAUUAAUAGUUUAGUUUUAUUUCGUUUCUUGAACAAGCUAAGUUUGUGUUAGUAGUUUCUAUUCGUUAUCAUGAUUAGUAUUUUUGUGGUUCUCGAUUAGGCAAAAGGUGUGAGAAUCCUAACCCUCCAGCAAAGUAGUCACAAUUUUCAAUGUUGUUUUGGAGAACUAAGAAUUCGAAUUCUAUUUUAAGGGCUGAAAUUUUGAUUCAACGAUGUUAUUUUGGAUAAGUAUUGUUAGUUAAUCCGUGUGGUUUGAUGAACGUUUAUAGGAUUCGUGAGUUCCAAUUGAGCGGUUGAUCAAAUCAGCAAUAGGUGUAUGAAAUUAACCUGAUAACUCAAUCGAAACUCGAGAAAAAUAAGGGCCACACGAUUAUGUGGGUAUUUUGGCCAAUUUUAAGCCCCAAUUAGGGGCCGAUUAAAGGACUCAAAUAUUGGGUCCAUAGCCAUCAUAUAAGCCCAAAAAAAUGUAAGUUUUAGUAUGUAUAUAUACAUGGCUAAGCUUAGGAGGUAUGUUAAGUAGGUUGUAUAUAAAUCAUAUGCUAUGUUAUGUUCCUUAUAAAAAUAUGUGUAUGCAUGUCAUACGACUUAUGAUAUAUGUAUUUAUGAUAUUAUAAUUAUGAUUAUGCUUAUGUUUUGGGAUGGGUUAUGAUAUGAUGGAGGAAGUGUUAUAUGAUAGUUUUUAUCGCAAUUAUGGCGGCUAGACUAUAAAAUUUCUAUCUAACAGCUCAGUUGCAUAUUUAUGAGUGACAUACCGCCACAUAUUGGUGUGAUUGGAUGGAUGGACUCUUGUAGUCCUAAUUGGUGAUAUUGCUUGGACGGAGAUGGUAUAUAGCAACUGGGGGUAUGAUAUGAUAUGAUAUGAUAUAGGAUAUGGUAUAAUAAGAUAAGAUAUGAAACAUGCUAUAACAUGAUAUGAAAACUGAUAUGAUAUAAGAUAUGCUUCGAUAUGCUAUGAUACAUUCUGAUUUAUAUAUAUACUACAAUGUGUGGGUCAAAUCACAUACUGGAUGUUAAGCUCACACGUUUGUUUAUUUUGUUUCAGGUGAUCUUUAGACCUAGGAUUGGAAGAUGAAUCUAGAGCUCGUAUUUCACUCUUUCGGUUUAAGUAUGCAUUGGACUCUCUUUUGUUUAUAUGGACCUUUUGAGCGUUGGAUAUUUUAAAUUUAUUUGGGACGCUAAAAAUUAUUUUGGCAUUUAUUUUUCAAAAGUUUUAACUUUUACUGAUACUUAAAUCAAGACAACUAAAAAUAAACCAUAGUUAUAAGGUAAAUUUGCUAUAAUGCAUUCUGUUGCAAGUUUUAAGGUCAAUUUGCUAUAAUGUUGUCCACUGCAAGUUUUAUUGAAAUUUGCUAAGAUGUUUUAUCUCACAAACAGAGUAAGUAAAUUAAAUACAUUUUGGUAAAAUUAACAAAUAUGACUUUCUUCAAUGUACUCACGGGUUUUCAAAAAUGGUACAUCUUCAACGGGUUAAUCAAAUUUGUUUUCUUUUGAGUUAAAUAGUUUUUGCCAAAAUGAAGUAAUAUUGUUUUCACACGCAAUGUAAUCUUCACAAUCUGACUGUAACAUCUAGGACAUGUUUGGGAUGUUAGAAUUAGAGUUUUAAAAAAUAAUUAUUUUUUUCUUUUAGAAAUUAAUGUCAUUGUAGGGUUUGAUGGGUUAUCUUCAACUUUAACAGUUAGGUUUCCAAAGUCGGUGAUCCUAUUUAAAUAUAUAAAAAAAUCUUUAAAUUUAAAAGGUGUUCUUAUAAGGAAACAAAGAUGUUAUAUAUGAUUGUUGUCGUGACAUAUAAGCAUUUAAUUAAUAUUUUAAAGUUUUAAAAAAUAAUAAUAAAUAUAUUUUUAAUAAUUGUAAAUUUUAAAAAAUAAGUUAUAUAUUUUUAAAACCUUAAAGUUUUUUUAAAAGCUAAUGUAUCAUCCAUAACAAAUUAUACAUCAUUAACACAUAUUGGGGCAUGGGAAAGAUUUUAAAAAAUUGAACUCAAAGAGUGCUGGUUCAUCAAGGCAUGGCAAGUAAGUGAUAGCUGAAGCAAUUUGUGUCAUGAUUGCCUGUAUUUCUUUCAUAAUUUCUUUAUCACUCUGUACCCCUAGCACACGGCAAAAUCUCCUACAUUUCAAAUUAACUGAUGUGAAGUAAAACAUUAAAGCAGAAGAGGAUCAACUAUUACCCUCACUAUUUGUUUCAAUGCUAAAAUUCCACCUCUCCUCUCCAACACCUCAUUGGUAGCCUUAAUCAUCAUAACCAACACAACCCUAAACUUGAGUUGUCAUAUUCAAAUAUUUAUUUGCACCCUAAGCAAUAGUUUUAGAACAAUUAAAUUUGCAUAAAAUAACAAGUUUUUUACUUGACGUUAAGACUGAGUUAUUAUUCAUUGAUACUGCUUUAGAACACUUAUAGUAAUAGUUUUAGUCUUUCAACUUCAUCAAUUAAUCUUUUAAAGUUAUGUGUUACGAUUGCCGUCAUAGGCCAGCUAAAAUUUUAAUUACGGUAAGUGCAUUUAUUAAUUAAAGAUAUAGUUACUGUGAACAAAGAUAUCAUUCUCACGAAGACUAAAAGUACUAGUAAUUAUCGUUUUUCUAUUAUUUAACUGACAAAUUGGAGUGAUUGAUUAAAGCUAAAAUUAACUAAAGAACACAACAAAGAGUAUAUCAUAAUAAUAAACUAUUAACAACCAAUAAGUGAGACAAUACCUAGGAAAGAAUCCACCUAAACUUCAUCUGUCAUGAUCAAUCUAAAUCACACAAUUUCUUCACUUUGUAUCUUAAUACGGAGAAAUCCCUAAAUUAUGCUAAUAUCUCUCUUUAAGACUAAAAGCUACUGAUUCUAGAUUGAUUAAUUGAAAUUUCUUUCUAAUUAAAAUCCCUAUUAUUGCAUUAACCCGAUCUAUAGAUCCUUCUAUUAGAUUUGACUCUAAUCCAAUAGAUUUAUGUCAUCUUAUCUAAGAUUGCAUGCAAUUCCACUCAAUUAUACUACAUCUACUCUUAAACAAUGUCUAUUCCUCCUCUGAUUUAAGUACAUAAAACAUGGAUCAAUAGUCUAGAAAUAUUAAACCAUGAAUUAAGCACACAUAAUUUAGAACAAGAUUUAAGUAUUUGUUGCAUAAAAAUAAAAAAAAAUAAUAGAAUUCAUCCUAAGGUUUAUCUCCUUAGGUAUUUGGAAAAAAUUAGUUCAUAUAGUAAAUAAAAACAUCUCAAAGAUAGUAUAACCAUAAGGAAUAAAGAAAAUCAUAAUAAACUUUAAAGAAAUCACAAGGAGAACUUCAAUUUUGAUGGAAAUAUGCUUCAAAGUCGGCUUCAAUGGAAUUUUUUGAGUUUUUUUUCUUCAAUAUUAUAUGACAACUCACUUCCCUCUUCUUAUAUUUUUCAUACAUGUCUUAGAAUACAUGAAAAACUUAAAAAUUACGAUUUUCUGUGUGUCUAGAGUACAAUUUGUUCUUUCCACAUGGUUUGACACAUUGUUGUGUGGCAACUCGUAUGGCUCACUCGAUCGUGUGGAAUGACCUAGUCCGUGUGGCUCCUGAAGCUUGUUCUAAUUUUCUAAUUUUUGCUCUUUUUAUUCUCAAAAGCUCUCUUAAGUAUAGAAACAUGAAAUUAACGGAUUGGAAGCAUAAAAUUCACCAUUAGCAUUGAAUAAUCACCCAAAAACGCAUUAAGAUUGAGAUGAAAACAUGUUACUUUUAGAAUCUAUCAUGUAUAUAUAUAUACAUGUCUUCUUAGAUCAUUUGCUAUUAAAUAUAUAUAUAUUAGAGCAAACUCCGGUGAGGAAAAUUUUGAACAUACGAAUGAAACUCGCAUAGAAAAUGAAGCCGAUAUAUAUAUCAAACCAUAUUUUUAAAGUUAUACCCGCUCUCACCUAUAUUCGGUGUUCAAAAUAAUUUCAAGCAAAUUAACCUUGAGAAUACAAUGAAGCCUAUGACUAUUUACAGGAAUUUUUAUGUCUUUCAUAGAGACAUCUUUCAAUAGUUAUUUUUUUAAUAAUAACAUCUUUAAAAAGACAUAUAAUUAUUCAUCUAAUAUUAUAAUUAUUCAAAAAAAUAAUUCUUUUUCAAAAAUUAAGUGAUAUAAUUAUUGACCAAUGACCAAAAGAUUUAACUUUUGAUUAAUUACAACAAAUUUUUAUAAUUAAAUAUAUUGAAUUUACAAAUUAAUGGAAGAAAAUAAUUAAUGGAUUUUAAGAUUUAAGGUUAAUAGUUUGGAAUUUAUCCCAAGUCUAACUUAAAGUUCAACUCUUAUCUAAUUGCGUUGAAAAAAAAAAGCCAAAAGAAAAAUUCCUAUCUAAUUUCAGCAAUUUAAAAAAACUUUAAAUUAAACUUAAAUUUUUAAGAUUCUAAUAAUAUAAAAAAUUAAAUUGAAAUUUUUUAAAAGAAUAUAUUAAAUAAAUAAUUUAUAAUUAAAUAAGAAAUAAAUAUUUUUUACUCUUCUAAAAAAAUCUUUUCUUAUUUUCAGUCUUCCAAUUUUAAAAAAAAAAAUUAUCACUCUUCUUCCUCCUUGGGUUUAUCUACUACGGGUAGAAGAGGAAGGCGAAAUGGGAUAGAACCCAGAUCGUGUCGGGUUGGCAUAGGAAAUGGGUUGUAUGAAGAUCAAGGUUUUUAGGGUUUUUGCAUUGGAGAAGAAGAAAGGUGGAGAAAAAAAGACAAAGAAAAAAAAAAGGUGAAUUUUUUUUUUCUGAAAAACUGAAAUCAGAAAGGAAGGGCUUUGCUUUCUAGGAGAUAGUGUAUUUUAAUGGAAUAUUAUGUAUUUAUUAUAUUGCUCUUUAAUUGCUGGGCUGCAAUUGCAUGCAUGCAUGGACGAUGUAUGUGAGUUGUGUAUCUUUUUUGCUGGAUUUUCUAUAUUGUUUUCCUCCUCCAUCUAUCUUUUUUUUUUUCAUUUUAAUUGAUUCAAUGGGUUUUGUUGAUUCAAUUAGAAUCAUUUGAUUUUUAAUUUGCUGAUUCAAUGGGUUUAUUGAUUCAAUGAGUAGUAGUAUCACUUGAUUUAUUUGCUUAGUGAUUCUUCUCUCAUUUUGACCCAACAAAAAUUGUCUUCGUGGAUGAAAAAAAUGGGAUAACUUUGCUCGCAUUAGGGGUUGACAGGACGAAAUUUCAAGUUUAAAUGGGAGCCAAAACUAUUAUGGAAGAAUUAAAACUAAAAAAAAAAAAAACUUGAGAUUAUUUUGAAUUAUCAGAAGAACCAUGGGGAGAGAUUGAAAAGUAGAAAAGGAGUUUCAUGGAUGUGAUGACUAGAAUUGAAUGUGUGAAAGUUACAGCUCAAAAUAUUUAAACCUCGCCAUGCUAGGUCUGGCUAGACAGUCCAAACCCAAUUAAUGACUGUAGGACAUUCCCACUAUAAAUUAUCCAACUACACUUCGUGUAAAAAGACGAAACACAAAAAAGCUAAAAGAUAGGAAUUCUUCCUAGUAAUUCUGCCUUUGUGGAACCUACCUCGGAAUUUUGCCUGUUUUUAUCUGAACUUUCUUCUUCGUUUUGGCUAUUGUACCCACAACAUUCUUUCUUCUUUACUGUUUUUAAUUUCUUUUGAUUUCCAAGGUCUAUCACAAAAUUUCAAGCAACCAGUCAAGGAAAUUUUCUUUCAUUUGCUUAAUCCGUAACAUGCUUUUCUUUGCUUAAUUCAUGACUUUGCAAUGAUUGUUUCUGGUUAUCUGCUACUCUUAGCAGCUAGCUUUGUAAGACAGUCAACUUCACUGCUUCAUUUUCAGUUCUAUUCUCUCAACACUUUUCAGCCACUAAGUCAGGUAAUAAGAUCUGAAGCUAUGAUUUCCUCCACUGAUUAUCAACAGUUUUAGAUUUUAAGACAAGUUUAUCAGCAGACAUAAGCUACUCUACAUUGAAAUUAAUACAGAAAGAGCUACCCGGAAGCACUAUAAUGUUGAAAUCUCAUACUUAACAUUUUAACUCUUAAUAUUCUGUAAUGAACUGUUGCACACUUGAAUCUAGCAUUUUAUAUACAUUAAGAGCUUAAUUCUGGUGACCAGAAUUUCAUCAUGUUUCUGUCUGCCACCCAUCCAUAGCUCCAUCUAAUAAACGCCAUUGCUUGAAACUUGCAAUCAUGUUUUCCUUUUCAUGCUUACACUGACAUAUCAAUACUUCAUAAAAUAUCCAAUUCAUUCUCUGCUACUGUUAUCUAUGAUUGCAUUGCAGGGACAUAGCAAUGGAGUACGUAGAGCCUGUUGUUGGCAUUGCAAUUUGUCUCGGCACUCCUGUUUGUAAAUAUUUGCAAUAUCACAGAAAGCUGAACGACUAUGUGAGAAACUUCAAGAGGAUCAGAGAUGAGUUGAAUUGCAAAAUGGAAGAUAUAGAGCUGCAAUUGAAAGCAGAGCUUCUUCGGCCUCUGGGGAAGAUACCAAAGAAGGGAGUUGAAAAUUGGUUGAAAGAUGUGAAAGAGAUGAUUCGGGAAGCACUACUUGUUGAAAACAAAGUCAGUAACGGGAGAUAUCUCUGUCGUGCUUGCAACGGGAAGCUGGUUGAUGUAAAGACUCGAGAAAUGAAGGAAUUUCUUGAUAAAGCUCCUAAAGCCUCUGAAGGUCUUGCCAUGGAUGGUCCAAGUGGUGGGUUGCCGCUGCCAACAUCAGAACUAGUCGGAGAGGAAGCUGUCAGAAAUGAGAUUUGGGCAUGUUUGAUGCAGGAGGAGGUGAGCAAGAUUGGAGUUUGGGGGAUGGGCGGUGUGGGUAAAACCACUAUCAUGAAGCACAUCCACAAUGAUCUUUUGAAAGAACAAAGAUUCGAAAGGGUAAUCUGGGUUACCAUAUCAAAGGAGUUCAAUGUAAUGAAGGUACAAGAUAAUAUUGCAAGUGCGUUGAAGGCGAAGGAAUAUUUAGACAAAGAAGAGGACAAGGUCAGACGAGCAGCAAUCUUGUCAGAAAUGCUGAAGAACGCAGGAAAGCAUGUUCUAAUCCUAGAUGAUGUGUGGGAUAAAGUCUCUCUAGAGGAAGUUGGGAUCCCCAAGGCAAGUGGCGGCAAUGGCUGCAAGUUGGUGUUGACAACUCGUUCGGAGCAUGUCUGUAAGUAUACGGGUUGUAAGGUGAUAAAAGUGAGGCCCCUUUCAGAAGAAGAGGCAUUGAUACUAUUCUUGAGUAAAGUUGGACCUAACAUAGUUCAAUGUCCAACUAUAAUGCCAACUCUGAAGCUUGUUGUCAAGGAAUGUGCGGGUCUACCUCUUACAAUUGUCGUGGUAGCUGGUACCAUGAAAGGAGAAUAUAACCCUCGUAUUUGGAAAAAUGCACUCAAAGAUUUGAAAGAGAGAAUAGGGAAAGUGGAAGGAGUGGAAGCUGAGGUAACCGAGCGCUUGAAAUUCAGUUUCGAUCACUUGAAAGAUGAGAAAGUAAAAGAUUGCUUCUUGUAUUGUGCAUUAUAUCCUGAAGAUUAUGAAAUUCGUAAGGUUGAACUAAUCGAGUGUUGGAUUGCUGAGAUAUUCAUAGACGAGAUGGACACAAGACAAGAAAUGGAAGAUAAAGGCCUUACUAUUUUGAAAAGGUUGGAAGAUAACUGCUUGUUGGAAAAUAAUACCACUCAAUUUGGUUUAAAUGGUAUAAAGAUGCAUGAUGCAGUGAGAGACAUGGCAUUGUCGAUCACAAGAAUGAAUCCUCGAUAUAUGAUACAAGCAGGUUUGCAAUUAGAAGAGUUACCAGAAAAGGGGCAAUGGAGUCCGGAUAUUGAGAAAGUGUCACUUAUGUAUAACUCCAUAUCAGAAAUUUCCAUAGAUGUGCUGCCCACAAAAUGUCAACUGCUCACAACCUUGUUAUUGCAGCAUAACCCUAUAAAGAAGAUUCCAUAUUCUUUCUUCAUAAACAUGCCCUGUCUUUGUGUCCUAAAUUUGUCCUAUACAGAGAUCGAGAGUUUACCAAAUUCCAUCUCUGAACUAAAGAACCUCACAAUAUUGUUGCUUUGUGAUUGUGAAGAAUUAAGAGAUCUACCAUGUCUUUCGAUGCUUCAAGAAUUGAAGAAGUUGGAUCUAAGUUGGACUAAAAUUGAGGAAGUCCCUGAAGGAAUGGAUAUGCUGAUAAAGCUAAGAUAUCUUGAUCUUAGAGUGCACACUCUGAAAGAGAUACCCGCUGGACUUUUACCAAAACUCGUUCACCUUCAGCACUUGGGUUUUUAUGAGAACAAUGAAAAAACAAGUCUAAAAGCAGAGGAGUUGGAACCAUUGAUGAAGUUGGAGUGCUUUACCGGACGUUUCGAAGAUAUCAAUGAAUUCAAUAAGUUCAUCUCCUCAAUGAAACAAAGUAAGAAAAAUCUCAUCAAGUACCAUUUACAGGUGGGCUCAUCUUUUAUGCUUGCUACAAGAGAUAAAACAGUAACAAUUGGAGGAGUCCAGAAUUGGGAAGGUGAGUCAAUUAUGCACCCAAUUGAAAUUCAACAGUUGAAUAUUUCAAGUUGCAACUAUUUGAGAAACUUAGUCGAUGAUAAUUCUUCCUUCAAAAAAGUGAUUGGCUUGAGGGUUUGGGUUUGUGAAGGGAUAGAGUGUGUUGUUUCCCUGUCCUCUUUUGCCUCUUCUUCCACUCAUCCAUUUCAAAGCCUCGAGGUGUUAGAUCUUGGAGAUCUGCUAAAGUUGAGUGCCCUUAUUAUGAAAGAUGCAGGAAUUGGUUCAGCAACAACAUCAACAUCGGCUCCGUCUGCCACCUUUUCCCAUCUUAAGGAAAUUAGGAUAUACAAAUGCUCAGGUAUGAAGACGUUGCUUCCACAUUGGUUGCUUCCAAACCUCCAAAGCCUGGAAGAAAUACAUGUGGGUGCUUGUAGUCAGCUAGUAGAAAUAUUGGGAGCAGCAACAUCAAAAGUUGAAGAAAGAGGGAGUGAUGCAUUAAUCAAAUUCCAUCUUUCCAAAUUCAGAGUAUUGAGACUAAAUAAGUUACCAAAUUUGAAGAGCAUAUGCAGCAAAAGUGGAGUGAUGGUUUGUGAUUCUCUCCAAGUUAUCAAAGUUUUUGGAGAUUGUGAUAAACUGAAGAGAAUUCCUCCAUUUGUUCCCCUUGUUGGCAAUGGGCAGCCAUUUGUAUAUGCUCCACCUUCUCUUACAAUCACGUCAGACACAGAAUGGUGGGAAUCGUUGGAGUGGGAUGAUCAUCCAAACUUUAAAAAUGUUCUUCAACCCCUUUGGAAGCUUUUAAGGUAUCAACCAUUUAUAGUUUAGUUUAUUCGAUUUAUUUUAUAAAUCUAAUUUCUCCAUUUUAAUACCAUUUCAUUAAUCCAACUUCUCCAAGUUAUCCAAGUUAUCCAACUUAUCCAAGAUGCUGGAGACUGUUAUAAACUGAAGAGAAUUCCUCCAUUUGUUCCCCUUGUUGGCAAUGGGCAGCCAUUUGCAUAUGCUCCACCUUCUCUUACCAUCGGGUCAGAGACAGAAUGGUGGGAAUGGUUGGAGUGAGAUGACCAUCCGAACUUUAAAAAUGUUCUACAACCCCUUUGGAAGCUUUGAAGGUAUAUGAACCAUUAUAGUUUAGUUUAUUUUAUUUAUUUUAUAAAUCUAAUUCCUCCAUUUUAAUACCAUUUCAUGUUAUAUUUUAUUUUUGUUUGAAGAUGAUGUGGCCUCCAUUGGUGCGAAAGAAGUAGAAGAGAGUAGCAGGGCGGAGGAUGGUGCAAAAGAGAGGAUAAAAAAUGUGGGAAUAAAAGGAAUGAUGGAUGAGGAAUUGAGCAGCCACCAUAAUAAUUGACUCCUUUUCCAUUGAAUCAAAUAUUAUUAUGUUCUAUUAUUUAAAAAAUCUUUAUAUGUUCUUAAACAGAGAUGUUGCUUUUAAAAUUAUUUGUCUGUAAAAUUAUUAAACUUAUUAUUCUUCUAUCAAUCAUUUAUGCAUUUUUUUACUAAUGAUUCUAAUAAAAAUUUUAACAUUCAAAAGCAUAUAAGUUGAAAUAAUUUUUUUCAAUUUUAAAAUAUGCAACUUAAAAAAGUACUCCAUUAUUUUCUUAAAAUAAUAUCAAAUAAAAUAAAAAAUUUAGUUUAAAUAUCAUUAUUUCUUCUUUCAACAAUCAUUCUAUUCUAAAAAUAAAAAUAAAAUAAAUAAACAAAAAAACUUUAUUAUAUAAUUUAAUCAGUUAAAUUUAAUCCGUUAAAAUAAAUAAAAAGUAAGACUUGAUGAAACACUAUAUAUAUAACUUAAUCAGUUAAAUUUUAUUAUUAAUUUUUGUAUUACGUUGUGUAUUUAAUUUUUAUAUUUUAAUUUGAUUAUUUUUAAUUUUUAAUUUUUUAAAUUUUAAAAUUUCAUGUGGUAAUAAUUAAAUUUAUUAAGUUAAAUUAUACUAUUUCUAAAAGGGUUAAUGCACUAUUUACCCUUAAAAAUUGUACUCAACUAUCACCUUGAUACUUAAAGAAUUUUUUAUACCAAUUUUGUACACGGAGUUUCUAACUAUGAAUCACUUUACCUUACUUGUUAACUGCAUUAAAAAAAAGAUGAUGUGGCGUGCUCUCAGCAUAUUACGUGAUUCAAUUCUUAUUUUCUCAAAAUAAAUUCUAAAAAAAAUGAGAACAAUAAAUAAUAAUAAUAAUAAUUGAGAAUUUUUCUCAAUUUUUUUAAAAAUAAAAAAAUAUGCAAAUUUAUAGCAAAUUCCUAAAAUUGAAAAACUAUUUACAUUUUUUUAAGUACAAAAAAUUAAAAAAAAAACAAAUAAAAUCUAUAAAAUUUUAACAAAUAAAAAAUUGGAAAGUUGUAUAAAAUUUUCAAAAUAAAAAAAUAUUUCUCUUUUUUAAAAAUAGAUAAAAAUACAAAAAAGAAAAAGAAAAAAAUACAAGAAUUUCAAAUUUUUCAGAAAAAGCUUAAAACAAUUGAAAAUCAGAAAAAGACAAAUAUAAUUUUAAAAUAUAUGAAAUAUAAAAAAAAUUUAUUUGGAGAUAAAUACGGAAGGUUUAGGGGUUGAGCCUCUAGAACAUAUGAACUGAUAUCUGAGCGAUCAAGGCGAGGAAAGCGAAGUUUCAUAAUAACCACCAGAGAGUCCCCUUCAAUCUCCACAGAACCAAACCCCAUCUCCCUUGCGAAUCAAAUCUCUUCCACACUCACCCAUGCCUUCGCUGCCAAAGGGGUUGAAACAUACUCCAUCCAGAAGCAGGUUGCCCACAUUAGAAGGCCUAAAUGAUUCAAAGUCAUGACCCCCGCACGUGCAACCGCCCAAAUCCCUAUGAAACCCGGUAUCAAAAUUGAGUCGCAUACAAGGAUCGACUGACAGUCACCAUGUUCGGAAGGUUGAGUCUUUCCGUCGACCAUGCACAUCGAGUAAGCAUCCCAGCCUUCAGACAUGACCCAAAAUAAAGGUAAGAAGCUCUGAAUUUUAUUGUCACUUGCCCUCAUGCACCAAAAGAUUUCUCAAAUACCAAACUGCCUAAAAGGUGACAAUUAUUGUUAGACGUUGUGCAGGAGAACUACCACAAAGCAAAUCCCAACAAAGCAAGGAGUCGUUAACCUCAUCCACAUGCCAAGUGAAACCAAGGCUCAACCAAACCGAGAGCAGAAAUGGACAAUCACGACAAGCAUGAAGAGAUGUUUCACCACACGCACCACAUCGAGGGCACAUCGAGUCACCUCGAAGGUGUUGCAUGAAAAGAUAAGCAUUGGUAGACACAUAGUUGUUUAGGAAUUUUGACACUAUAAUUUGGAUAUUUUCCUAUGCAGAAAUCUACCAAGGAGUUCUAUAAAUGUCCUUGAUGUCUUGACCCACAUUAAUGUACUUGUCCUUCAUCGAACUAGGAAAACCAUGCAAAAGGAGUCAAUAGCCACUCCGAACCGUGUACUCUCGAGAACCUUCUAAGCACCAAUGCAACUGUCAGAGGCCCCCUACUGCGGCAAAGGAAUGAAGAGGAUCGUACGAGCCUCUAAGGCAUCAAACGUUGAUAGAACAACAUCCUCAUUCCACAUAUUCAUAUUUGUGUCAAUCAAAUCAGCAACCUAAUUAAUACCAUUGACUCGUUGUAACUCCACCAGAAAUGGUCGAUCACUAGAGCAUCAUGACAUGUCACAAACUAAAAUCUCAUUCUCAUUCCCCAUCAGCCAACUACAACCUUUGACGAGUAGGCCUUUCGCCGCCCAGAUGCUCCUCCUAAUAAAAGAAGUUUUGCUCCCUAAUGUCGACUGUAGGAAAUCAUCACGCAAAAAAUAUUUCACCUUAAGAACCCUUGCCAUUCACAAAAAUUAUCCCUAUUUAAAAUUUUCUUAGUAAAAAUGUUAAUAAGAGGAUUAUAAGACAUAUUUGAACUGAAAAAAAAUAAAGAUUCAUUAAUUACUAUAUUUGUAUUAAGCAAAUAUUUUUAUUUCAGCAACAUAUCAAGAAUGCAGUAUGAUGCAUGCGUCUUGUAUUAAAACCUUGAAAAUAAUUUUUUUUUGUUGCUAUGAUCAUUUUCACACCCAUCAAUCAUGUCGCUUUGGGGUCCAUGAUUAACUAGUAAGAACAUGGAAUACAUCCAAUCAGUUCAUGAAUCUUAAUUCUCAAGACUCCAUAGGAACCAAUGAUCGUUUAACGUUUAGCCAUCAUCUCUAGCUUAAAUAUUGUUUUUUGGGAAACUAUUUCAUAAGAGAAGAUUUUAAGUAUGUAACCAUUGACUCAACACCCAUCAUGAACAUGCUUUCAUUUAUGAGUCAUCUUGGGACAAUUUCACUAAGAUUCAUGCACAACUACUUAUCCUGAAAAGUAAAUCUUAUCUAGUGAACCCACAUGAUAAAGUUUAUCUUGAGACAAUUGUUUUUUCUUUUAUCAUGCUAUCACUUAAUACCAUCAAUGGAGGUCGCAGGUCUUGUUAAAGGACCUUCUCCCACUCAAUAUUUUAAAAUAAUAUGAAAGGUUUUUUUAUCUCAUGUUUAAAAAAUGAUCAUACAAUAGUCCUAGUGACAUUCUUAUCUAAUUUAUAUGACAUGCUUCCCAUAUAUGCAUGACAUGCUAUGACAAUUUUAUAAUAUUCACAUUCAUUUAUUCAUAAGAAUCAAUCAAUCAUAAAACAAACAAUUUUGAUUCUCUAUAGUUUUUCCUUUGAGGGAAAACUGAAUAAGUGAAUGUGAACCGUGCACCAAGUAGGGUCUUAGGAAAGGGAGGUGAAUCAAAGUUGACCACUUAAAAACCAAGCCUUCUAAUACCACAUUUCUCACGGUAAUCGAAUAACCUAAAGUAGUGAAUAGAACAAUACAACACAUGCAUUUUCUCAUUACCACACUUCUAAUUUUUUUUAAUCGAUCAACUGCCGAUCAUCUCAUAUAUAUAUAUAUCACAAUUGUAACAUUACAUGAUAUAAAUAUUAAAAUCAAUUAUAAAACAAAAAUAUAAGGAGGUGAGUAAUUAAAAUAAAAUUGUCAACCAAGGUUUCCAUGGUUUUAUUCUAGAAAAUAAAAGAAAAAAAUAAAAUUACACAGUUAUUGGCCACAAGGUAUUCUUUGGGUCUUCAACUGCCAUCGCUCUAUCUUUUCCUAAUCAUGGACUCCUUUCGGUAGAACUACAUUUAACCCUUAUGUCCGUUUUCGGAUCAAGAAUUCUAUGAAUUAAAAAAACAAUCCUACAUGAAGAUGAUAGUCCACGGUCUAUUUCCUAAGAACCAUAACAUUGACAAAGCAAACAAUUAGAUAAUAAAUAUAUAAUAUCGCAUUCAUUCUCAUAUAUAACACAAAAAUAUGUAUAAGAUCUAAAGAAUGUCACUUUCUAUGUAAUCAAAUCAUUCAAGAAGAAGAGAAUUUUAUUUUGGUUAUCUAUUUAUACUUAUAGAUAGAGCAAAACCUGAUUUUAAUACCAAUUGUUCAAAAACGAGUUUGGAAAAUGCAGCGAAAAAUCAAUAUAGGGAAAAACCUAAGUUUUAAAAACUUAUAAAAUAAGAAUUUAGUUGUGAUAUCAAAAGUAAUAAACACUUAAUAAAAAUUAUACCAUUUGCAUAUGCUCCACCUUCUCUUGCCAUCAAGUCAAGCACAGAAUGGUGGGAAUCGUUGGAGUGGAAUGACCAUCCAAACUUUAAAAUGUUCUUCGCUUCAACCCCCGUGGAGGAUAAGAGGUAUGAACCAUUUAAGAUUUUGUUUAUUUUUUUUAUUUUUAUAAAUCUAAUUUCUCCAUAUUAAUAAAAUUUGAUGUAUAUUUGUGAUGAUGUUGAAGAGAAAGAUAGAAGGGUUGGUGGGAAAGAAGUAGGGGGGAGGAUAGUGCAAAAGAGAGGAGAAAAGGAAUGAUGGAAGAGCAUGGAGACUGAGAGGCAAAGGUAAAUAAGAAAUCAAACUGCCUCCCCUUUUUAAACAUUUUUCCUCUCUUACCAUUCCUUCUAUUCUCUUCUAAUAUAUAUAUGUACAUCCCAAAAUAACCUUCUAAAUAUUUAUUAUUAAAUUAUUUAUAUUAAUCAAAAUGAUUUAAGGUGAGACAAAACUACGACCAUAGUUUUAUUUCCAAUAAAAGUUAGGAAAUUGUUGUAAAAAGACAUAAUAUUUUUUAAUUUCUAUGUAAAAUUUCUGGAAACAUUACGAUUUAAAAAAUAAUAAUAUAGUUAGAAAUUAAUGCCAAAAGAGCUACCCAGAAGCAAUAUAAUGUUGAAAUCGCACACUGUUGAACAUUUUACCUCUUAAUAUUCUGUUGCACACUUGAAUCCAGCAUUUUCUAUACAAUGAGAGGUUAAUUCUGGAUAUACAAAUUUCAUUGUGUUUCUGUCUGCCACCCAUCCAUAGCUCCAUCUAAUAGACGCCAUUGCUUGAAACUUGCAUUCAUGCUUACACUGACAUAUCAAAAAGCCAAUACAUUCACAGAUUUUCAUUAUCUGCUACUGUUAUAUAUGAUUGCGUUGCAGGGACAUAGCAAUGGAGUACGUACAGCCUGUUCUUGGCAUUGCAAAUUGUCUCGGAACUCCGGCUUGUAAAUACUUGCAAUAUCUCAGAAAGCUCAAUGAUUAUGUGAGAAACUUCAAGAGGAUGAGAGAUGAGUUGAAUUGCAAAAUGGAAGAUAUAGAGCUGCAAUUGAAAGCAGAGCUUCUUCGUCCUCUGGGGAAGAUACCGAAGAAGGGAGUUGAAAAUUGGUUGAAAGCUGUGAAAGAGAUGAUUAAGGAAGCACAAGUUGUUGAAAACAAAGUCAGUAACGGGAGAUAUCUCUGUCGUGCUUGCAACGGGAAGCUGGUUGAUGAAAAGACUGGAGAAAUGAAGGAAUUUCUUGAUAACGCUCCUAAUGCCUCUGAAGGUCUUGCCAUGGAUGGUCCAAGUGCUGGGUUGCUACUGCCAACAUCAGAAUUAGUUGGAGAAGAAGCUGUCAGAAAUGAGAUUUGGGCAUGUUUGAUGCAGGAGGAGGUGAGCAAGAUCGGAGUUCGGGGGAUGGGCAUAAAAAAUUAGUAAAAUAGAUCAUUGCUAAUUCUCUCUUUUCUUAAUCGGUAAGUUUCUCUCUUCAAAUCCUUUUAUUUCUUUAUUGAAUCCAUCGCAAACCGAUUUCUGUACAGUUUGUUUGUUCAAUUUUUCUUUUUCCAGUUUUUUUUUUUUUUUUUUUUGGAUUUAGAUGGAAGAUUCUUUUGUCGCAUUUGAAGAGUUUCUAAAGACUUUAGGGUCUUCCUAAAUCUAACUUUCUUGACACCACGUGCGCGUAUAAAUUUCUUUCGUGGAGAUUAUUUAUCAUGUUUGUGUGUUUCGUCUCUUGAGGUUGAGCUAUUUUUCUUUUCAAAAAUAAAUAUUUAUUUUCUUUUGCAUUUAUUUCUAAUAUCACCAUAAAUUGUUUAGGGUUGUCGAUUUUGGGGAUUUUGGGUUUUGGGUGGUCUAAUUUGGGGAUCUUGAGUAAGGGUUUUGAUUUUAGGAAUUUUUAUUUAGGGUUUUUAAUUUUGGAGAUUUUGGGGAUUUCUCACACCGCCCUCCUCAUCAGCUUCAAAGCCAACAAAUCUACAUCUAGGCUCAUGCGAAAAGUCACUAGAACCCAUGUUUGAAACCCCGGGUCACUUCCGCCAUGCAAAUUGCAUCGAACUGAUCAACGACUCUAUCAAAGAGCUCCAAAAAUCUAUAUGUAAAAUUUUUUCAUAUCAGAUGCUCCAACUUUGUGCUCAUGAGUGAUCUUCAAACCUAGGUUAAUGCUGCUCUAACGGAUGAAGAUACUUGCAUGGAUGGAUUCUCAAGCAGGGCUAUGGAUGGGUAUGCAAAGAUGAUGGUGAGGAAACGAAUUAUUAAGAUCACACGUUUGACGAGCAAUGUUUUGGCUCUCAUUAAUAACUAUGCUUCAUCUCAAAUCCUUCAUAGAUUUUCUUGAGAAAACUUUGAUGGCAAGGAAAGCAACUUUGAUGGAAAGGAAAGCAUUGUGUUUCAUGGAUUUAUGUUCAAUAUGAGAUUUUAUGGUUUUCAAACAGGGCACAAGUUUUUAAGGUACUGUAGAUUGUGUUCUCAACUCUAGGUUUGUGGUUCUUGAUUUUUGCAAUUGUAUCAAUUUGAAUAUGAAAUUUGUGUUCGUGUAUGUUUAGGGUUUUUAUUAUUUUUUUAAUAAUUUUAAAAUCAUUUGCUGACAUGGUAUAUAAGAGAAAAUAAUGUUAUGUUAGUAUUUAAAUUCAUUUGGACCAUCAUGUCAGAGGUUAAUGUUGACCAUUAGACAACUAACGGCCACAUCACCUUCUAUGUUAAAAAUAAACCAAUUUGUUAGAAAUUUAAAUUUUGCACUAUAAAAUUAAUUUUUAAAAUUAACUAUUCAAUUUGUAAUUGAUUUUAUUAAAUUAAAUUAUUCACUAAUGUUUGAAAAUGUUCUCCAUGUUAAUUAUACACUUGAUUUUUUUUAAAAUUAUUUAAGAAUUCAGUUAAAUGGUAAUCAAUUUAUAUUAAAAUAUCAGUUUUAUUGGUUGUAUUAUUUCAUUAACAUUCUUAUAAUAUUAUUUCAUUUUUAUUUAUAGACACCAACUUCAAAAUCAAAAGAGGAUUAAUUCACGAGAAGAUAUGGCUCAUACUGUAAACGAUAAAUAAGAUAUUAUAAAUUGAUAUGAUUAAAAUUUAAAUAAUAUACAAAGAGUAGCAAAAUAAAUUGAAAGCAUUUUAUAUGAUCUAAAUGAACUAUAAUAAAAGGAUUAUAUAUUUCCUAUCAAUCCUACUAUAUUGUCUUUUAUAAAUAAUUUCCUAUCAAGCAAGUUGACAGCUAAAGGGUGCAAAUUUGACUUUGCUAAAUUCUCUAGCAUCAAAGAGGCAAGAUAUUUUGCAAACAAGACAUAAACCAAUAUCAACAUGGUGAUUCCAAAAUUCAAAACACACUAAACCCCUACUUUUGUAUGAUAGAGAAAAUAUGAUGUAUAAAUUUAUAGUCAUGGAAUGCAUUAGGUGCAUUGAAGAUAACUCAGUGUUAGAAUCAAAUAAAUUUAUCGUUAUUUUUGUGAAUUGUAAAAUUGUGCAUCAACUGGAAAAAAUGUUUGUCUGGCAUUACAAGAAUUUCUUUAAAGUUAAUAGUAUGUUUGUCUGCCAUUACAAGAAUUUCUUUAAAGUUAAUAGUUUGAGAGAUUAUUUUAAGGAGGAAUUGGAAGGCAUUGCUAUAAGGAGAAUCUCAAGAAAGCAAUUUGGUUUUGAGUUUCAAGUGAAAGGAAUGAAAGAAAGGUUAAUUAAAUAAAUACGGGAUUGGAUAUUGAGCUGUUUUGAAUAGUUGGAGCGAAGGACACAUGGACCAUAUGAAAUUCAAGUCUACCAAAGUAAUGCUAAUCAGAUUCCUCUUUGGAAAUGAUAACUUUUUAAAACAUUGUCAAUCUACCUUGAAAGGUGGCAUCGGUAAAAGAAUCAAUCAUGAAAUAUUAAAAUUAUACUAAAAUAACUAUACAGAUUUAUUUCCCUUAUAAAUAAACAUUUUCUUAUUCUUCCUUAAAAAUUAACAUGAUUUUAUCUUAAUAUACAUGUAUAUAUAUAUUUAUGUCUCAAAAUAGCCUUCUAAAAUAUUUAUUUUAAAAAAAUAAUUUAUAUAAUACAUAUAACAAUUAAUUAUAAACUUAUUUUCAUAUGAUGUCAAAAUUAAAUAUUAUAAUGGUCCUUUAUCACAUUCAACACUAACUUUUAUUUUAUAAUUUUUUUUAAAAUAAACUUUAAAUUUUAUAAUAAAAAGCAAACAUAGGCUUCAAAUUUUAAGUUAAAAAUAUGGGAUACUAGUUGACUAUAGACUCAUCCAUGGGCCCUUGACCAGAGUCGGGUCUAUAUAGAUAAAGUUUUUUAUAAUUCGGGUCGGUCCAACUAAAAUUUAAUUUAAAUAAUACAAAAUUAUUUUUAAAAUUUAAAUUUAAUUAUAAAAAUAUACUUUUAUUUUUUUUGAACAUUGAAACGAGCUUUUUAGGUAGAUCGAGUUGGGUCAAAAACUGGCUUGGACUUGAAAAUUUUUAGAUUAUUUUUAAGAGAAUAACAAUAUCAAGGAGUCUAAGAAUUAAAAAUUUUAAAUUAAAAUUUUAUUGUUUGAAAUCUUCUAAUAACAUAAAAAAAAAUUAAACUAAAGUUUUUAAAAGAAUUCAGGGUAAAAUACACCAUUAGUCACUCAACAAAGGGUCAAUUUUCAUUUUAGUCACUUAACUAAAAUAAGAUACAAUUUGGUCACUAAUGUUUCUAGAAAAAAAUUUUGGUCACCCGACUGUUAAGUGGCGCUUACUUUAGCUGGUAUGAUAACAAUUUUUGUCACAUCCCAAAAACCAGUUUAGUAGAAAUUGAGUUAGUGAAACCAAGAGUGGUCACGUCCUAUUUUUGAGUUAAGAUUGUGAAAAUUAUGUUAAGUAAAUUGAUUUGGUUAAGUGGUUAAGUGCUUUGGAUGUGUGUUUAAGGUUUUGUGUUCAGAUCUUUUCCCUUAAAUUUUCAUUAUUUUGUCCUAACUUCCAUCUCUAAACAUCUAGCUUAUAUAUUAUUUUUGUUCAAUUGAUUAUAAGAAUGAGUUUGCUGGUUUAGUGGUAAGACUUUAGUUUACUUAGAGUUCUUAUGUUUGAAUCUUAUGUGUGUAAAUUUAAACUCUGAGAAUUUUUUUAUAAGGAUAACUAAUCAAAUUGAGUGGAGAAGUUUUCCAUUUUCCUACAAAACUUCCCCAAAUUUUGCCUCAUUCUGUCGUCCACUUCUUGCCACAUUGUUCACGUUUUCUUUUCCCUUUUUUUUCCAUCUAAUGAUUUCUAUUUUCUUUUUGCUUUAGUAGUUUUGCUGCUUUCCUUUCUCAUCUUUACUCUACUAUUUUCUUUUGUGUUAUUCUAUUGGUAUGCUAUUGAAUCUCCGUUAUUCCUUUGAGUAAGUGUUGGUUAUUUGUUUUAUAUAAAUGUGGUGUUGGGUUAAUCUUUCAAGUGAUUGAUGGUUUCAAGUUUGAUCUUUGCAAUGUGUUGUUAGGAGAAGAUCGAUGGACUCGUGAAUUGUCUCCAGCGAUUUAAGUGCAGGAAAGGGUUGUUGUUUUUGCAAGGGUAAGUGAUUAAAGUUUUCAAUUGGAGGUUGAUUCGGUUGCUUAGGCUAAGUGUUUAGCAUUUGCAAUCGAAUUAGUGACUUGGAUUUAGCAUAUUACUAAUAAUUCUUACGUUCUAAAAUGUCGGUUUAGGUCUGAAAUCUUCGUAGUGGUGUUAGCAUAAAAACCGACCAGGUGUGUAACAGAAAUAUUAAAAAAUAGUGAACGACACGAUGUCGAAAAACCCACUAUCGACGUCACACAUCCAUGUGUCAGGUUAUGUGGGUCAUACGGGCUGGGUUAUUUGGGCCGUGUGGGCUACACGAGUGUAUGUUAGGCUGUGUGUCUGGCCGUGCAGGCCAUACGGGUUGGGUCAGUUAGGCUGUGUGGGCCCAUUUUUCGUAAAAUUCUGUCAGGGUCGUAUUCGAAGUGUGAUUUGAAAUUAGUCACUUAGUAGGUUUUGAUAUGUGUUAUGUAUGCAUUAUGGAUACGAAAUUUGAUAUUUUUUUCUAUUAAUGUGAUUUUGAAAGCAUAUUAUUCAAUAUUGACAUUGUACGUGUAACAUUCGAAAGCAUGACUGUGGUAUAAUUUAUGAUUCUGAUCUAUAAUUUGAGAAUCUAUUUAAGCAUGAUUCAUUUAUGUGCAUCUAAGUAUGUAAAAUGUUUUGACAUGUGCAUUGGGGUGGGAUGAUGAUGUGAUGGAUGAAGUGUUUUGGCAAUUUAACUGUAUACUGAUAUUUAUAAGUCAUCGUUGUCAGCCAACUCGGGAUAACUUAAUUUGUGGUUUAAACACAUAUCUAAUAUGGUAGCUUGACCACACUUAUUGAUUUUGGCAGAAUACCGCAUUAUUUCUGGCAGCUUGACUACGCUAUUCUAAAAAGUGAUAUUCGCUCACUUAUUGGUGUGACGGAUGGAUAGGCUCUUAUAGUCCUAUUUGGUCUGUAUUGGUGGCACGGAGAUGGUGUGUAGUGGAUGGGCGUAAGAUCUAUUUUUUUGUCUAUAUUUGCAUUUGUAUUUGUAUAUGUAUCUAAUCCUGUAUAUGAGAUUGCAUUUGUAUCUGAAACUGAAAUUAUAUAUGUAAUUGAAUUAUAUCAAUUUCUAUAACUAUUACUGUAUUUGAGUCUAUUCGGCCUAUUUGGGUUGAGUUACACACUAAGCCUAUAAGCUCACCCAAGUUCUUUGACUUCUCAGGUAAUCGGCAUACUUAGGACCAAAUGACGUGCAGAAGCUUAGAUUGGGUUCUCAGUUAUUUAAGUAUGGUGGUUCAUGUUUUUAAAUUAUUUUGGACUUUCUAGAUUUUUUAGGGGGUUGUAAAUCUAUUUCUGUAUUUUGCUUUACAUUUUGGUUUGCUUAGUUGAACUUAGUAAUUAUUAAUUAAAACUACAAAGUUUUGUGUUUUGCAAAUUACAAUUUUUUUUUGAAAGGUCUUAAUAACACUAAAAAUCUUAUCACACACAUAUGCAUGUGGAAAUCACGUAUUUAUAACACAGACUUAUGUUCAAAAAUAACAUACAAUGAAUAUUGAAAAGUAUGAUUUGGAACUAAUUAAUAAUAACACGUGAAAUAUGUAUGAUAUUAAAAUAAAAAUUAGAUUAAAUUGAGAAUAAAACAAAUCUAAACACAAAAACACAUCAUAUUAAGAAUACUAAAUGAAUGCAAAUGUUUAUCAUUAUUUUGUCUUCAAUCCCAAGUUGGUGAUGCUAAAUCAAUAACAUUAUUUACAUACAUAAAUAUAUAAAAAUUUAGAACACAAAUGUUUGUCUGUUAUAAAAGCAUGUAUGACAUGUAUAUUUUUGACAUUUGUUAAUUCUGCAUGUGCAUUAGGAUGAGAUUUGUGUUUAGGAGGAAGGGUGGGAGUUUAAUUCAUUUUCCACAUUUUGUGGCUCAGCCACACAUAUUUCUGCAUUUGGCGAUGAAUCACCUAAUGAUCUGGCAACUAGGCUGCGAAUAUUUUGAAAAGUUUCAUACCGGUACUAAGCAGUGUGUAGGGUUUGAUGGGUAUUUAAUACCCUAUAUGGUGUGUAGGGAUAGUCGGAGAUGGUGUGUAACGGAUCGGAGUAGGAUUGUAAUCUACAUUUAAUAUGUUUCGAUUCUGUUUCUGUAUAUGAUAUAUGUCUAAUUGACUUCCUAAAGCACGUUUGAAAAUUAUAUCUGAUAUUUUUACUCUUAUAAGUUACAUAUUGAGCUUGCAAGCUCACUCUCAGUUUCUCUUAUUCUUAAGUAAUCCUUAGACUUAGGUGGGUCGGUGCGACUGGAGCUCGAUUAAUUAUCUUCUUGUUAUAUUUGUUAUUUUAAUCUGGUUUAUUCUGUUUUGGUUUUGAAUUGUUUUUAAGUUUAGGUUUAUUUUCGUUUUAUUUAUUUAUUUAAACAUUUUUGGUCGAUUUAAAUUCAAUCUACAAAAUGUUAAAUUAUAUGGCAACAAAUUGUGUUUUCAAAUUUGGACUCAAUUAAGAAUUUUCGCUACAAACAUAAGUGUUUUACUAGUAAAUAAUUGAAAAUUUUAUCGAAAUGGUUAAGAAGGAUAUUUUCCCCAAAUAAACUCGAAUUUUACUUAAUAAGAGCUAGCAUUGAUUUAUAAGUUGAACGGAUUCUGGAUUUUCAAAUAAAUUGUAGUAACAUCUCCAGAUUUUCCCAUAACGUCUAGGCCAGGUUUGGGGUGUUACAGAGCCUAUAAGCUCACCAGGUUUGGGGUGUUACAGAGCCUAUAAGCUCACUCAGUGUUUCUAACUUCUCAAUUAAUCAACAUAUUUAGGACCAAACGACGUGCAGAAGAUCAGAUUGAAUUCUCAAUUAUUUAAGUAUGAUGGUUCAUGUUUUUAAAUUAUUCUGGACAGUCUGAUUUUUUUGGGGGGUUGUAAAUCUUUUUCCGGAUUUUGCUUUGCUUAGUUGGAUUUAGUAAUUAUUACUUAAAACUACAAGAUUUUAUGUUUUACAAAUUAAGUCAUGGUUUUCAAAUUUUACUACUCUAAAAUUUCCACUACAAAAUAAAGUAAUCACUUAAGGUUUUUCUAUAACAAAAUAAAUAGUUUUAAUGAUUGUUUUCUUAAAAAUUGAAAAGCGAUUCGCCAGAAUUAAUAUUGUCAAAACACACAAUUUUAAAUUUAUUUUCUAGGUUUUUAAACAAGUUAAUGUAAUUCCUCCAGAUUCGAUCAUAACGUAUAAAUCAGGUUUGUGGCGUUACAAUUUUUGUUCUCAAUUUACAUAUAUUUAUCAAUUUGACCCUGCUUUUAUAUAAAAAAAUUAAAAUCAUUUAUAAAAUAGAACAAUGUAUAUAAAAUUCUAGAAAAAUAAAAUGUUGAAUAUAUUGUCGAAGAACUAAAAUGUAUGAGAAAUAAAGAAAAGUAUCAUUCAAUAGAAUCCAAUAACAAAUUAGAAACAAAACGAAAUAAAAAAGUUCAGUUUCAUGCUCUUGAAGAACGUCUAGGACUGAUAUUAUAGACUUAUAAAAUCAACCCGACUGUCAUUUUUUUGGUCAAAAGAAUACAAAAUAUACCACAAAAUUUUUUUCAAACUCAGUUCAAAUUUUAAUUACAUUUAAAUUAUUUUUCAAAACCCAAAUUGUAAAAACAAAAUGUGUUUCUUCUUCGGUUGAGUUGGGCUUAGACAAGGUUUUUAUCUCACGAGCUGUUCCAAUUCCAAUUCAAUUUAAAUAAUAAAAAAUAUUUUUAAAUUUUAAAUUUAAUUAAGAGUAUAAAAAUAUUUUUUAACAUAGUAUUAUUUUUUGAACUCACAAAUGGACUUUUCUAGGUUGACUAAGCUUGGUUAAAAAUGGGUUAGGCUUGAAAAAAUUUUAGAUUAUUUUUAAGAGUAUAUCAAGGAGUCUAAUAAUUACAAUUUUUUUAAAAGGUUUUAAUAACACUAGAAAUCUUAUCACACGCAUAUAUCUUACUUUGCAAAUAAAAUAGUAUUUUUGGUAAUUUUCUUAUUGAGUUGGGACUCGAUUGAUGAGUGACACUAACUCAGUAAAAUGUUUAAUACAUAGUAUAGAUAAAACAAUUCUAAACUAAAAUUUUUAAAAGAAUUUAGGGUAAAAUUCAACUAUGGUUAAGUUUUCAUUUUGGUCACUUAAUUAAAAAAAUGUUACAAUUUAAUCACUAAUAUUUUCAAAAUUAUUUUCUUUUUGUCACCCGACUGUUAAGUGGCACUUGUUUUAGGUGGUAUAAUAAUAAUUCUAGUCAUCAGUUUUUAUAUUUUCUAUCAAUUUGACUCUGAUUGUGUAUAAAAAAUUAUUUAAAAAACUCAAAAUAUUUAUAAAAUAGAAAAAUGUAGAUAAGAUUUCUGGAAAAAUAAAAUCUUGAAGUUGUUGAAUAACUAAACUGUAUGAAAAAUAAAGAAAAUUAUGAUUUAAUAAAAUCCAAUAACAAAUUGAAAACAAAACAAAACAAAGUUACAUUUUGCACCUUAUACUUGUUCAUAAUAGCUAAUAUUCACAUAAUUUUUCAAUUCAGACCAUUUUAGUGAUGAAUUCACUAAAUUCUAGUUAUAGCUAAACAUAUAGAUGAAAUCAAGUACAAUUUACACAUAAUAUAAAACCAGAUAGUAAGUUUCAUAUUUAAUGUCACACCCUAAUUCAACUCAUUGCUAAUACAACUCAUUGACUUGUAUAUUUAAUUUCAAGUUGUAUAUUUAAUACUGACAACUUCAACAAUGCAAAUGAUUUAGUAAUGGGGUGCGAAUAACUAUACCUAAUGCAACUCCUUUACUUGUAUAUUUAAUUUCAAGUUGUAACUUAUAAUUAUGCAUUCUUAUACCCUGCCGUCCCAACUCUUAUUUUUAUUAAAUAUUAUUUAUUGCCAACUUCAAUGAUUUUGUUUUGAUGUCCAAGGUCUAUCCCCAAAUUUCAAGCAUCCUGUCAAGCUAAUUUUCUUUCAUUUGCUUAAUCCAUCACAUGCUUUUCUUUGCUUGAUUCAUGACUUUGCAAUUUCACACCCUAAUACAACUCAUUCCUAAUACAACUCAUUGACUUGUAUAUUUUAUUUCAAGUUGUAACAUAUGAUUAUGCAUUCUUAUACCCUGUUGUCCCAUACUUUUCGAUUAAUUAUUAGAUUUAAUGAUAAAUUUAGCCUUUAACGUUUGAUUAUUUUAUUAAAAUGGCCCUAAUUGUGUUUUUGAAGUUUUUUUUUUUUUUGGCUAUCAACCUUUGUUCUUUUUUUCACUCUUCUUUUUUAAAUAGAUUUAAUGAAAGUAUCUUAAAAAAGUUAACCGCGAUUAUGUGAAAUUUCAUAUGUCGAAUAUUUUUAAUGAGAUAUAAUUUAUUAGUUAGAAAACCCAAUAAGAUAUUUAUAUUCUUGUGAAAAAAAAUAAUACAUUAAAGUGAAAAAAAAAUCUUAAUUUAAAGAAAAUAAACUUAAUUAUUUUUUAAAAAAAUUAACUCAGUAGAAAAACUUUUCAGUAAACAAACAUAUGAAAGAUUGAAAACUUUUGAAAGGAAAAAAAAUAUUGAAACAAAUGCUGAUGGUAAAGAAAAGCUCAAAAAUAGAAUUAGGGCCAUUUUGACAAAACAAGCAAAAAUUAGUAGUCUAUUUUGCCUAAAAAUAGAAAAGCCUAAAAAAUGCCGCUAAAAGUCUAUUUUACUACAGUAGUCUCGAUUCCUUCUUAAUGCUACAUCGGUUUGAAGAUCUGCGUUAAUAGUCGAUCAACAAUAAUGAAUGCUCACUAACCAAGCUAAGAGGGUUCGGUCAAUGGGUGAGAAAUAAUGAUGACAAGAUGAGACUUAGAUGGGGCAGCAAUGCAGAAAUUAUGAAGGCAACAAAAACUUCAAUGUGCAACAACAGGAGAAGGAGAAUUGGACAUCAAUGGAAAAUCAAAAAUGGUAGAAACUUCUAAACAAAAUAUUGAUAUUAAAAAGGCAAUGAUUCAGCCAAAUAAAUUGGAGAAGUGAUAGGCAAAGGGGCAGCACAAAUAGAAAAUAAAACUUGUGUUUUAGGUUGCAAUAAUGGUGGGUUAUGAGAGAAAAUUGAAGAAUAAUGGCAAGGAAAAAUGAAGGGGACGACAAUAGCUUGAGAAAAAUAAAUAAAAUAGGCUAAACAUAAAAUAAAAUGCAAUUUAUACCUAGGUUAAAAAGGGCUUGGAAGGCAACAAGGUUUUAAGGAGCAGAAACGUUGAAAAAAUAAAAAUUUACAAGGGAAGGGAAUCAAACUCAAGUCUUAAGGUCAAUUUCACUAACUCUUUACCACUAGGCCAAUUAAUCAUUCUUUUCAUAAACGCUCAAACAAAACCUUAAAAAUUAGGGCAAGACAACUCUCAGUUCACUAAACCGAUUUCUUCCUACCCAAUUCCUUCUGACCCAAUUUUUGGGACAUGACAAAACUAUUAGUAAGUUUACGUUUAGUUUUAGUCACUUAACUUCAAAAGGUUACAAAAUGGUCAAUAAACUAUUCAAAAGUUUUCAUUUAAGUCAUUGGUUUGUUAAUGUUUUUUUUAAGUUUAACUAAUGAGCUUCAAGCGAUGAUUCGACAAUUGAUGUAGUGAAUCUAUACCCAUUGAUGAGUGGAGCAUAUCUUAGAUCCAAGUUAACAUGCCAUUUAGUGUAGAAGAUUGGAGAAAAAAAGUUGUUUGAAAUUUGGUUCACAGAUUUGUGACGUUCAAAACUGUUUUAUGAAAUGAAAUUAUGUUGUAAAAGAGAAGGGAAACGUGAGCUUUCAAUUGAUACAAACGGUGCAAACAAAGGUCAUAUAGUAACAAUUUUAAAAGCUUGAUGACUUAAAUGAAAAUUUUUGUAUAGUUCAGUGAUCAUUUUAUAAUUUUUUGAAAUGAACUAAAACAUAAACUUAUUAAUAAUUUAAUGACCUUAAUUGCCAUUUACCCAUAAAACUAUUAAGACCAUUAAUGAUCAUUAUUCUAAAAAGUGAUGCAUUAAUUAUAUCUUUUUAUCUUUUAUAUAUUAUUUCGAUUAAUACUUAAAUUAUUUGUACGAAAAAAAAAUCAAAAUGAAAUGCAACAUGUUCUGAACUUUUAUUAAAGCUCAUCAUUUUGUUGAAGAUACCCCAAUCCAUGAUUUCAACAUUGGAAUUUUUGAAAGUCCCUAGUAAUAGUAUGAAUUAUGAAAUUUCAAAAAAGCAUAUUCUUAUUUAUUGUUAAUUUCAAGCUAAUUUUAAUAGGUAUGCUUACAUCUGUCUUUAGAAUUUGCAAAACAAAUAGAAAAUUCACUUUAAAUGUAUAAAAAUGAAUAAAGAAAACCCAUCUUCAUUUCUGACAGCAAAUAAGAAAUAGGAAAAAAAAACUAAAAAAGAAAUACAUAUUUUCUUGAUAGACGCUUCAAAUGAAACAAAUAUGAAAAACAUAGUUGUAGGAGUGUUCAAUUGCUUAAUCGAUCCAUUAACCAAAUCGAAUUAGUAUUAACAAAAUCGAAAUUAUCAUGAAAAAACUCAAACUUAUAAAUCCCUAUCCCGAAAAAAAAAACUGAAGCAUCCAGAAAAUACAUCAAGCAUUGAACUACAAAAGAACAUAUCACUAUUCAUAGUUGUAGAGGAGGAUUAGACACUGCUGCUAACGAUGGGUGAAGAAAUAUGCCAACCAAAGACAUAUUGUUGUGUCUGGCGGGGUUAUUCUACCUAUACCAAAAACAUGUUAUUUCAACAUUACAAUGAAAAUUCUGAUACAGUGACAAUAUAAUGAAAUAAAUUUUAUCAUGUUCCGAAGAAGAAUUAAUAAGGGGAAUUUCUAUUGCAUUCUAUAUUUUUCAUAAUCUUUACAUGUAGUAUACUCCACUAUAUAUAGAAAGAUUAGACUCUUCAUAUUCUAAGACAUAAAUAAGAAAAAAGGGUUAUAAGGAGAUGAAAGUUUAAAAAUUAAAGAAAAUGAAAGAUUAAGGUCAAGAGAGAUGAAAGGUGAAAGGUUAAACAUCCACUUAAUAAUAUUAAUAAUAAAUAUUUUAAAUGUAACAAAAAUCAUAAAAAUAAUAGAAACACCGCUCCAAAUGAACCAAUUCCACUCAAGCAAUUACUGAAACUUCAAGUAAAACAUGAGAGCAUAGAUUGUUUAUUUUUUAAUAAGUUAAUUGCACCAAAUAUUUUUAAAUUAUUACCCGCAUUCUAUAUUAAUGCACUUUCGAAAUAUUGUGAUUAAUUGCUCACUUUCGAAAUUGGUAGGGAUUAAAUUGUUUCGGUUUUUUUAGAGGGAUCAAUUUGCUGAAUAUCAAAAUUGAGAGGGACUAGAGAGGUCGUUUUACCUAGUUUAAUAAUUAAAUGACAUGUUAAAUCUUAUGUGACAUAAUUUAAAAUGAAAAUUAAAAAAAAAGGAAGAUUGUAAAAAUAGUUGUUUUAAAAAUCAUGGUUUUGAAGUUUUUACACCAUUUUUAUUGUUCGUUUUUUUUAAAUUUCAGUUUAUAUAAUUUUAGCUUCUUUAAAAUUAUUAUUUUAAAAUUAGCUAUAUAAAAUUUAACGUGUCAUUUAAUGAUUUUAAUAAUAAAAUGACCUGAUUAAUAUAAUAUCAAUAGUUUAGAAAUGUAAUUAGAUCAGUUUGAAGUUUGAAAAUAAAUUUAAAAUAAUUGUCAUAAUUUAGGGGUGGUUGAUGCAAUUAACUCAUUUCUAAUGGUCAUAAUUUAGGACAAAGUGAGAAAGUGGAAAGCAGAGUUAAAAUAUGACCCAAAGACUCACCUUUUUAUAAGUCGUCUCCUAUCAUAAUUGCAGACUCACCUUUUUAUAAGUCGUCUCCUAUCAUAAUUGCAUAAUAAAUGGAUGGGGCAAUUACCAAACGAUGAAGCAAAAGAAAAAGGCUAAAAGAAAAAGUAAUAAAAAUAGGAUUUCUUACUAAUAAUUCUGCCUCUGUGGAUCCUACCGGAGACUUCAUAAUUUCCCUGUUUUUAUCUUCACUUUCUUCUUACUUCUUCACUGCUUUUAAUUUGUUUCGAUGUCCAACGUCUAUCACAAAUUUUGAAGCCUCCAGUCAAGGUAAUUUUCUUUCAUUUGCUUAAUUCAUCACAUGCUUUUCUUUGCUUUUGAUUAUCUGCUACUGUUAUAGCAGCUAGCUUUGUAAGAUUGUCAAGGAACUCAACUUCACUGCUUCCUUUUCACUUCUAAUCUCUGUACACUUUUCAGCCACUAAGUCAGGUAAUAAGAUCUGUUGCACUGAUUUCCUCUACUAAUUAUCAACAGUGUUAGAUUUUAAGAGUGGAUGACCAGCAGACAUAAUCUACUAUAGAUAGAAAUUAAUACAAAAACAGCUACCCAGAAGCAAUAUAAUGUUGAAAUCUCAAACUGUUCUGUAAUGAACUCUUGCACACUUGAAUCUAGCAUUUUAUAUACAUCGAGAGCUUGAUUCUGGUGACUAGAAUUUCAUCAUGUUUCUGUCUGCCACCCAUCCAUAGCUCCAUCUAAUAGACGCCAUUGCUUGAAACUUGCAUUCAUGUUUCCUUUUCAUGCUUACACUGACAUAUCAAUACUUCAUCCAAUACAUUCACAGAUUUUCAUUCUCUGCUACUGUUAUAUAUGAUUGCAUUGCAGGGACAUAGCAAUGGAGUACGUAGAGCCUGUUGUUGGCAUUGCAAAUUGUCUCGGAACUCCUGUUUGUAAAUACUUGCAAUAUCACAGAAAGAUGAACGAUUAUGUGAGAAACUUCAAGAGGAUGAGAGAUGAAUUGAAUUGCAAAAUGGAAGACAUAGAUCUGCAAUUGAAAGCAGAGCUUCUUCGUCCUCUGGGGAAGAUACCAAAGAAGGGAGUUGAAAAUUGGUUGAAAGAUGUGAAAGAGAUGAUUAGGGAAGCACAAGUUGUUGAAAACAAAGUCAGGAACGGGAGAUAUCUCUGUCGUGCUUGCAACGGUAAGCUGGUUGAUGAAAAGACUCGAGAAAUGAAGGAAUUUCUUGAUAAAGCUCCUAAUGCCUCUGAAGGUCUUGCCAUGGAUGGUCCAAGUGCUGGGUUGCCACUGCCAACAUCAGAACUAGUUGGAGAGGAAGCUGUCAGAAAUGAGAUUUGGGCAUAUUUGAUGCAGGAGGAGGUGAGCAAGAUUGGGGUUUGGGGGAUGGGCGGUGUGGGUAAAACCACUAUCAUGAAGCACAUCCACAAUGAUCUUUUGAAAGAACAACGAUUUGAAAGGGUGGUUUGGGUUACUAUAUCAAAGGAGUUCAAUAUUGUGAAGUUACAAAAUGAUAUUGCAAGUGCAUUGAAUGGAAAGAUGCCCGAAGAAGCAAACAAGGUCAGACGAGCAGCAAUCUUGUCCGAAAUGCUGAAGAGAGCAGGAAAACAUGCUCUAAUCCUAGAUGAUGUGUGGAGUGAAGUCUCGUUGGAAGAAAUUGGGAUCCCUAAGCCAAGUAGCAGCAAUGGGUACAAGUUGGUGUUGACAACCCGUGUGGAGCAAGUUUGUAAGUCUAUGGGCUGUAAGGUGAUAAAAGUGAAGCCCCUUUCAGAAGAAGAGGCAUUAAUACUAUUCUUGAGUGAAGUUGGACCUAACAUAGUGCAAAAUCAAACUAUAAUGCCUACUCUAAAGCUUGUUGUCAAGGAAUGUGCGGGUCUACCCCUUACAAUUGUCGUCAUAGCUGCUACAUUGAGAGGAGAAGAUGACCCUCUUAUUUGGAAAAACACACUCGGAAUUGAAAGAGAGAAUAGGGAAAGUGAAAGAAGGGGAAGAUAAAGUGAUCGAGAGUUUGAAAGUUAGCUUCAAUCACUUAAAAGACGAGAAAGUGAAAUAUUGUUUCUUACAUUGCGCAUUAUAUCCCGAAGAUUUUGGAAUUAAAAAGGAUGAACUAAUUGAGUGCUGGAUUGAAGAGGGAUUCAUAGAUGAUAUGAGUACAAGACAAGAAAUGAAAGAUAAGGGCCAUGUUAUUUUGAAGAAAUUAGAAGAUAAUUGCUUGUUGGAAAAUGUCUCGAGUGAAAGAGUGAGAAUGCAUGACGCAGUGAGAGACACGGUAUUGUCGAUCACAAGAAUGAAUCCUCGAUAUAUGAUACAAGCAGGUUCGCAAUUAAAAGAGUUACCAGAAAAGGAGCAAUGGAGUCCGGAUAUUGAGAAAGUGUCACUUAUGUAUAACUCCAUAUCAGAAAUUUCCAUAGAUGUGCUGCCCAUAAAAUGUCAACUGCUCACAACCUUGUUAUUGCAGGAGAACCCUAUAAAGAAGAUCCCACAUUCUUUCUUCACAAACAUGCCCUGUCUUAGUGUUCUCAAUUUGUCCUCUACGAAGAUCAAAAGUUUACCAAAUUCCAUCUCUGAACUAAAGAACCUCACAACAUUGUUGCUUUGUUGCUGUGUAGAAUUAAGAGACCUGCCAUGUCUUUCGAUGCUUCAAGAAUUGAAGAAGUUGGAUCUUUAUGGGACUAACAUUGAGGAAGUCCCUGAAGGAAUGGAUAUGUUGAUAAAGCUAAGCUAUCUUGAUGUUACAGUGUUCACUCUGAAAGAGAUACCCGCUGGACUUUUACCAAAACUCGUUCACCUUCAGCACUUGAGUUUUGCUGGGAACAAUGAAAAAAUAAGUCUAAAUGCAGAGGAGAUGGAACCAUUGAAGAAGUUGGAGUGCUUAACCGGACAUUUCGAAGACAUCAGUGAAUUCAAUAAGUUCGUCUCCUCAAUGCAGCAAAGUAAGAAAAAUCUCAUCAAGUACCAUUUACAGGUGGGCUGAUAUCUCAUUCCUCUGUGUGUGACUCCUGAAAUAGAUAAAAUAGUAGCAAUUGGAGGAGUCGACAAUUGGGAAGGUGAGUUAAUUAUGCACCCAAUCGAAAUUAAAGAGUUGCAUAUUAUUGAGUGCGACUAUUUGAGAAGCUUAGUCGAUGACAAUUCUUCCUUCAAAAAUGCGAUUGACUUGAGGGUUUGUGGGAUUUGGGGGUGUGAAGGGAAGUGUGUUGUUUCCCUGUCCUCUUUUGCCUCUUCUUCCGCUCAUCCAUUUCAGAGCCUCGAGGUGUUGGAUCUUCAAUUUCUGCCAAAGUUGAGUGCCCUUAUUAUGAAAGAUGAAGGAAUUGGUCCAGCAACAACAUCAACAUUGGCUCCGUCUGCCACCUUUUCCCAUCUUAAGGAAAUUACGAUAGUCAGCUGCUCAAGUAUGAAGACGUUGCUUCCACAUUGGUUGCUUCCAAACCUCCAAAACCUGGAAAACAUACACGUGGAGGAUUAUAGUCAGCUAGUAGAAAUAUUGGGAGCAGCAACAUCAGAAGUUGAAGAAAAAGGGAGUGAUGCAUUAAUCAAAUUCCAUCUUCCCAAAUUGAGAGAACUGAAAUUGUGGAUUUUACCAAAUUUGAAGAGCAUUUGCAGCAAAAGUGGAGUGAUGGUUUGUGAUUCUCUCCAAGUUAUCAUAGUUUUUGGAGAUUGUGAUAAACUGAAGAGAAUUCCUCCAUUUGUUCCCCUUGUUGGCAAUGGGCAGCCAUUUGCAUAUGCUCUACCUUCUUUUACCAUCAGGUCAAGCACAAAAUGGUGGGAAUCGUUGGAGUGGGAUGACCAUCCAAACUUUAAAAAUGUUCUUCGCUUCAACCUCCGUGGAGGAUAAGAGGUAUGAACCAUUUAUGGUUUAGUUUAUUUUUUUAUUUUGAUAAAUCUAAUUUCUCCAUAUUAAUAAAAUUUGACGUAUAUUUGUGAUGAUGCUGAAGAGAAAGAUAAAAGUGUGGGUGGGAAAGAAGUAGGGGGGAGGAUAGUGCAAAAGAGAGGAAAAAAGGAAUGAUGGAAGAGCAUGGAGAGUGAGAGGCAAAGGUAAAUAAGAACUCAAACUGCCUCCACUUUUUAAACAUAUUUUCCCUCUCUUACUCCUAUUCUCUUAUUCUUCUCUAAUAUAUACAUAUAUAUAUAUAAUUCCCAAAAAAACCUUCAUAUAUUCAUAUUUAUAAUUAAAACAUUUAAGUUAUAAACGUAUUUUGAUAUGAUAUCGAAUCAAAUAUUAUUAUGGUCUUUUAUCACAUGCAACACUAGUCUAUUAUUUCGUAAAUUUCAAAGUUUAUAUAAAAAUAUAUACACGCUUCCAAUUUUAAAGUAAAUAAUAUGGAAUAGAAGUUGACUAUAGACCUCACCAUAUCUCGAGUCAAUCCAACUUAAAUUUAAUUUAAAUAAUAUAAAAUUAUAAAUUAACUAUUUAUAAUUAUAGAACUUGUAGUAUAACUAUAUUUUAAUUUAUAAAAUAGGGUAUGUAAUUAUUAAAUUAUUUUUAUACUAUCAGUCAUUACUAUUAUAUCAUAUUUACAGAAAAUUGUCUAUUUUAUAUAUUUGAAUUCGAUGACCCAAAUAUUAAAAUUAUAUAUUUGAACUCGUGAUAAUAUGUAUUAUAAAUUCCUCGAUUGUUGGGCCAAUAGACACAUUACUUGCCAAAUCACAAAGUGAAAUUUAUACAAGUCAACUACGAAGAAAAACACUAUCGCUAACACAUUAUUAAAAAAGAUAAAAAGGAAUGAAUUUCAAUAAUCUCAUAAGUCAUUGUAUAUUCUCAAGUCAAUGACUACCAUCCAUCAAACUACAAAGUGAAGUUCAUAUAAGCCAGACGAAAGCACCCUCCAUCAAUAUGCCAAUAAAAAAAUUUAAGUCAAGACUUGGAUUCAGUUCAGUAGUACAAUCCACGGUAUGACUCAUAAAGGUAUUUAUCCACAGUAAAGGCACCCUUCCAGCAAGGGUUCAUUUUCAUUUCCCUAAAGAUCAUUUAUUGAAUGGUAGCUCGCUUUAUUACAAUUCUAAAUAUUUGUAAAUUACCACAAUUUUUAUAAGAAAAAUACAAGUAAAUAGUUCUUGUUCACAACCAGAGGUGCUCAUGGGCCGCCUAGCCCGACGGCCUGCCCGAAAUAUGGGAGGGUUUGGGUAAAAAUAUAGGUCUGAAAUAUGGGCUUGGGCAAAAAAACGAGGCUCGUUUAAAAAACGGGCCGGGCCUCGGGCACCACUUUUUUGGCCCGGGCCUGGCCCGGCCCGAUAUAACAAAUAUAUAUUUUUUAAUUUUAAAAUAUUUUUUACAUACUUUUUUAAUUUUUUUUAAUUUCAAAAUAUUUUUAAAAUACUUUUUUUUAAUUUUUUUUAAUUUUAAAAUACUUUUAAAAUACUUUUUUUAAUUUUUUUAAUUUUAAAAUAUUUUAAAAAUACUUUUUUUAAUUUUUUAAAAUUAUUAAAAUAAAAAUGGGCCGGGCCCGGGCUUAUGAUUUUUUUCCCGAGCCUAGCCUGGGCAAAAUCUUAGGCCCAUUUUUCGGGCCGGGCCGGGCCCGGGCCUAGGACCCGGGCAGAAAUUUUUUAUGGGCCCGGCCCGAACCCGGCCCGGCCCAUGAGCACCUCUAUUCACAACACAUGUAAGAUCAUUUAUCGAACGGUAGCUCGCUUUAUUAUAUUAGCAUAGUGUUAAAUAGUUUCUAUCGCCUCCGAGAUUAGUUUGAUUUCAAACGAUUGCUUUACCGUCAACGUUAGCAUAAUUUAAAUGGUAAUGAACAAUUGCAAUGCGCCAACACAAUUCUAAAUAUUUGUAAAUUAUCACAAUUUUUAUAAGAAAAAUACAAGCAAAUUGACCUCGUCCACAACACAUGUAAGAUCUGAUUUUACCUCAGAUUUUUGAAAAACAGAGAAUGAUUUAAACUAAAUGAAAAAAAAAAAAAACCUCGAGAUAAUGAUUUUUUGUAUUUAAGAUGAGAGGAAGUAAUUAUCCGACAACUUAACAACACUAAUAGUUAUUUAAGAAUUUAGGUAUAGGUAUAGGUAUAGGUAGUUGACUGUUAGGAUUUGUUAAAUUAAUGUUAUCUUAUAUCUGUUUCUUUUUGGAUUAAAUCCUGAACUGCAUAAAGCAAAAACAUGAGACAAAUUAAUGUUAGCUUGUGGUCCUUCAACUUUUUCCACUUCCAUCUUACUCUGAUUUCAACAUUUCAUUACCACUCUCUAUUAUUUAUAUCUCCUUCUCCUGCAAUGGAAGCUGCAGGUUUCAGAGCUGCCAUAAAUAAGGAUUUCAUAGCUCAAGAACUUGACAAUGACAGGGAAGAUGACCAAGAAGAAGAAGGGGUUGCUAUGGGAAGGUAGGGUUCAGUGAUGGCUUGUCACAGCCUUCUUCUCAAGUGGAAAAAUCCAAGCUCAGUUCAUCGGAUGCAUUUGCCCGCAAUCAAAAGGGAGUCAUUGCAGACAUAAUCAGCUUAUGCUACCAAUCUUAAUAUAAGAACCAAAACAUCAACUUACUAUACUAUGAUGAAGGAUUUUAUAACAACGUCAGGUAUAGGAAUUAAAAUUCAAUUAUCCAAGGGAAUCUAAGGGAUAACAUCUGAAGGAAAUUCAGAUUGUUCAACAACAAAUUUGAAAUGUCAUGGCAGAUUAGGUAUCCAAUCAGCUGAACCGCUAAAGCGAUUGAAAGCUUGGUAGAAUAUUAUGUUCCAGUGCUACAAAUUCAACUUUAGUUUCCUUCAUUACUGUUUGCCUAUGUAUAGAAAGCUUAGGAUACCACACAAAAUAUGCAUAACAUUCUAUCCAACAUAAGAAAGGUACAAAAAAGAGUUCGUUAUCAUACGGAAACAGGUGAAGUUGCCACACUUACAGAUCACUAAAAUUUCACAACAAUGAUGGAAAUGUCAUCCUCAGUUAGGUGCUUUGCAGCAGAUCGAGCAUCCUUAAUGCCUUUGAUAGCAUCGACAGCUUCUUGGUUUGACAUUACCUGGAAUUUAAGGAACGGACCAUUAAAUCUCAGGUUCAACACGCAGGUUCAAUAAAGGAAAAAUGUGAUUAGGUAGGGCUUACCUUCCAUAAACCAUCACUAGCCAAUAUUAUGAGGUCAGUAUCAUCGUCGAUUGUUUCAGUGCUCACAUCUGGCUCCGAAGUAAGAUGUUUCUUUAAAAUCUUGUCACCAAAUGCUCUCGCCACCGCAAGCUGGCCGUCAACACACGCGACAUCCCCUGAAACAAAAACAAUAUCAGGAAAAGCUGGUGUAACCUUGAGCGUCAUCCCCAAAAGAUCAGGCACCCAUUACCUGGAAAGUUCGAAACAAAACCACCUCUAUUUUCAAUGCUCUCCCUUUCAGAAGCGGGCUCAUGAUCAACUGAAAGCUGCUUAGCCACACCGUUCUUAGAAAUCACAGCCCGGGAAUCGCCAACAUUUGCUAUUACUGUUGGAACAAUGGCAGCAGCAAACAAAGUUGCAAGCAGGAACAAACAAGAGUGAUCGAGCCAAAAGAAAAAAAAAACAAGCAAAAACAGCAAAAUGUAACUUGAAUGCUCAGCAAAAUUUGUAACUGAACUACUACUUUCAUUCAAAAUUCAAAAUGUAUAUAUAAGUUACAAUAUGCAAUAUGACAGUUACCUAAUAAUCUAACUGCCUCCACUAAUGCACAACUAAUACAAGCUUAGACAAAUACAAAGAUAAGCUGUCAUACCAGCUUUUACAUCAAAGAUCCAAUCAAAACUUAAUCCUACUAACUUUAUAAACUAGUUACAAAGCAACUAAGCUAGAUUACAUUACAACAAGAUAAUUAAAAAACUGGUUGCUUCAUUCGGUCGAUUUUCAUUCUUGCGCACCAAGCAAAUUUGUUGAGCUCAAUAGCUGCAGUUGUUUGCUGCUGAUCUCGACAGUAGCUGGCUUCAUGUUGCAUUGCAGUCCAGCUCUCAACAAUUACCAGCUUCUGGCAGUUGAUCAAUAUUGCUGUCACUGCCGUUGAACCCCCUUUGCCCAAAUCAAUGCCUUGUUCCAAUAUAUUUGUAUCCGUUAAACGAUACGCUUUCCUAAUCGCAUUCUCUGGUUCCGACCAAAAGUCGGGCUGCUCGCAUAAAAAGAAACAGAGGCGCUUGGUUAAAACUACAAGCAAAACACUGUCAAUGCAUAGGAAAAAGAUGCCGUAAGAUCCAGCUUAUUAUAGAUUACCUCAUUCAAGAUAUUGUUAAACAAGUUCGCCUUCAAAUAUUCGGGAAUAACAUGGCUCAAAUGGCCAUCGAAUAUGGCAAAUAAACCGAGCUCACUGCCAUUGACUUGCUUAAACUCCGCGAAAACAUAGUCCUCCAUUGGAUGAUUCGCUUUCCCCUUCACUAAAUGAUAACCAUGCGUUAUAUUCUUCGACAUCUUACUCUUCCCUUUUCCAGAUUCAGCAUUAUGAGAAGGGUUUAAGCCAACUUUUUCUUGAACUUUCUGCUGCAGUGAUGAAGAAAAACAUGCCAUCACCCGUAAAGCAUUGUGGUGGAAAUGGGUUAAUUCUUUUCCAAAAUGCAGUUAAUUGAUUCAAAACUUUUUAACAAUUUCAUUUUCUUGGGAAAUUAUUGAGGUCAAAUCAUCCAAAAACAUCCAAUUCUUCCCACAAACUAGUUCUUGGAAACAAUUUACUCCAAUUUCCAAAUUUCCAAGAAAAAACAAUCAUAAUCAAACCCCAUAUAUAAUAAAUCCAAAAUCAAUCACUUCAAGAUGAUGCAAAUGGGUUCUUUCAAAGAUAAAUCAUAACCCAUUUUUUCAGGAUUUUGCUUUGCUUAGUUAGAUUUAGUAAUUAUUACUUAAAACUACAAGAUUUUGGAUUUUAUAAAUUAAGUAAUAGUUUUAGUACUCUAAAAUUUUCGUUCCAAAAUAAAGUAAUCAAGUGUUUUUUUUAUAACAAAAUAAAUAGUUUUAAUAAUUGUUUUCUUAAAAAUUGAAAAGCGAUUUGUCAGAAUUAAUAUUGUCAACACACAUAAUUUUAAAUUUAUUUUUUGGAUUUUUAAACAAAUCAAUGUAAUUCCUCCAGAUUCGGCCAUAAUAAACCAAUUGGCGUUACAAUUUUUAUCCUCAAUUUAUAUAGAUUAUCAAUUUUUCCUUUAUUUUAUAUAAAAAUUUAAAAUCAUUUUUAAAAUAGAAAAGUGUAUUAAAAUCUUGAAUAUGUUGUUGAAGCUAAAAUGUAUGAGAAAUAAAGAAAAGUAUUAUUCAAUAGAAUACAACAACAAAUUAGAAACAAAAUGAAAUAAAAAAGUUUAGUUUCAUGCAGAACAUCUAGGAUUGAUACUACAAAGACUUAUAAAAUUGGCCUGGAUGUCAUUUUUUUGUCAAAAAAUUACAAAAUAUACCACAAAAUACUUUUUUCAAACUCAGUUCAAAUUUUAAUUACAUUUAAAUUAUUUUUCAAAACCCGAAUUGUAAAAACAAAAUGUGAUAAGUUACAUAUUCUGAAACGGUUUUUAGAAUAAACCGUUUUGGAAGUAAUUCAAGCUUCCAUUUUUUCAAUGUUCUUAAAACCGCAAGGGUUUCAAGUUCGUGAACUGGAUAUCUUUGCUCUGUACCAGAGAAAGAGCCAUUCGCGUAGUUUGAUAGCAAUUCGACGCGUGACCAUCGUUUGCUUGUCAUUAGAGCCUUUAAUCGCUCUAGGAAACCUAUAUCCUUCUAUGGUAAUUGUAACCAUUUCGGCUAUCCAUUUUAGGUAAAUUACUGAUCCAUCAGCAAUUUUUACUGGUUGAGGGUUCAAAGCCUCUUGCCAUAAAUCCUCUGGUAAGAGAUUUUUCUUACAGAGUGUUACACUAGCACCCGUAUCUAUAUAAGCAAAUACAGUUUUACCAUGUAAUUGUACCUGUAUGAAGGUACUAUUCGGAUUCUGACUCCGUUUUUGACUCAUAAUCUAUCUCUAGAUCACUUAGGCCAAAUGAUUCGUCUUCACUAGACGUUUCUAUAGGUUCAAACCCUAAAGAUAAUACCUUAUUAAGGACUUUUAGCUUUCCCGGCCCUUGUCCUUUCUUUUUGCAUUCUGAUGCAUAGUGUCAUUCUUCGUGGCAAAUCCAACAUGUUAACAUUAAUGGGAGACAACAUUAAUGGCAAACAAUACAAAGUGGUGCAAGUUUAGCACCCUAAAGUUGACUUUGAAAAAGUGGCAUGGGAUAAUUUUUUUUUGGUCCUUGAGAUAAUGGGCUAUUUAUUGUUUGGUCCUUAAACCUCAACUAUAAAUAGGCUUUCUCAUUUCUCAUUUCAAUUCAUCCCAACCAAUCUUUCUCUCUUAGUUUUCUCUCUUCUCCCAUUUGAGAAUUCUUAAGGAAUUCUAUUUGUUUGUAAUACUUUGGAGAUAGUAAAGUUAUCAUCUGGUGUUAGUGCCCGAGGACGUAGGUAUAAUUUACCGAACCUCGUUAAAUCUCUUGUGUUCUUUCUUGUCCUAUUUUUCUUUCAAUAUUUGAGGGUAUAAUAGUAGUAUUUAAUUGUGCUAUUAAAUUACUAUAGAAGAGAUAUUCUGUCUAAGGAAAGACUUGGUAUUUAAGAGAUCCAUGUGAUCCACCUCUCUUCCCUGGGAAUUGAACUUUGUGUGAUUUUUUAGUACAAUAAUUUACACGCUUCCGACCCUAUUGGAACAACAAGUGGUAUCAAGAGCCGAAGGUUAAUCGUAGUAUGCUCUGUGGUUGCAGUUUGAACUGAUCUUCCACAUCAGAAAAGAUUUCCUUAGGUAUAUUGAAAGAUUUUGGAGAAAACGGUCGGUGUAGGAGCUUCAACAUCGUCCAUGUGGACAAGACCGACAAUUGCAAAUGCAAGAUUGGCCGUGGAGAUCUUUGAUGGCACGGGCCAUUUUGGUAUGUGGCAAAGUGAGGUUCUAGAUGCCCUUUUUCAGCAGGGUCUAGACAUUGCCAUUGAUGAAGAGAAACCAGAUGAUGUACAGGAGAAAGAUUGGAAGGCGAUCAAUCGGUUGGCAUGUGGCACAAUUCGAUCAUGCCUUUCUCGAGAGCAGAGGUAUGCUUUUUCAAAGGAGACUUCUGCAAAUAAGUUGUGGGUGGCACUUGAAGAAAAUUUUUUGAAGAAAAACAGUCAAAAUAAGCUCCACUUGAAGAAAAGACUGUUUCGCUUCACAUACGUCCCAAGUACCACAAUGAAUGAUCACAUCACCAAAUUUAAUCAGUUAGUCACUGAUUUGCUGAAUAUGGAUGAGACAUUCAAAGAUGAAGAUUUGGCUUUGAUGCUGUUGGGGUCACUUCCUGAGGAGUUUGAGUUCCUAGAAACUACUCUACUUCAUGGCAGGAGUGAUAUAUCUCUGAGCGAAGUCUGUGCGGCCUUAUACAGUUAUGAACAGAGAAAGAAGGACAAACAGAAAAACUCAAUCAGAGAUACAGAAGCUUUAGUAGUCCGAGGUCGUUCAUACACUCGGAAGAAAACUCAAAAGGGGAGAUCAAAGUCAAAGUCCAGACUCGGGAAAGAUGAAUGUGCUUUUUGUCAUGAGAAAGGCCACUGGAAGAAAAAUUGUCCAAAGCUGAAGAAUAAGGGAAAAGCUGCUGUAGAUGCUUGUGUUGCUAAGCAUGAUACUAGUGACUCUGAACUAUCACUGGUUGCAUCAUCAUCGUCGUUCCAUUCAGAUGAGUGGAUAUUGGAUUCGGGUUGUACCUAUCAUAUGUCCCCUAACCGGGAGUGGUUCUCUGAUUUAGUAGAACUAAAUGGAUGAGUUGUUUAUAUGGGCAAUGACAAUGCCUGUAAAACUGUUGGGAUAGGUUCAAUCCAAUUAAAGAAUAAAGAUGGAUCAACCAGAGUUCUGACUGAUGUUCAGUACGUGCCCAGUUUGAAGAAAAAUCUCAUCUCAUUGGGAGCCUUGGAAUCCAAUGGUUCAGUUGUUACUAUGAGAGAUGGGGUUUUGAAAGUGACAUCUGGCGCACUUGUGAUAUUGAAGGGCAUCAGGAAAAAUAACUUGUAUUACUACCAAGGUAGUACAGUUAUUGGAGCAGUCGCUGCAGCUUCCGGUAACAAAGACUUGGACUCAAUGCAGUUGUGGCAUAUGAAGUUGGCAGCGAAAAAUCCUUGCAAAUUCUGGCAAAGCAAGGAUUGUUGAAAGGUGCAAAGGCUUGCAAAUUAAAAUUUUGUGAGCACUGUGUUCUGGGAAAGCAAAAGAGAGUGAAAUUCGGCACUGCUAUCCAUAAGACAAAAGGUAUUUUGGAAUAUAUUCACUCAGAUGUGUGGGGGCCUUCCAAAACACCUUCGUUGGGAGGAAAACACUACUUUGUUACUUUUGUUGAUGACUUUUCCAGAAGAGUUUGGGUGUAUACCAUGAAAACUAAAGAUGAAGUGCUUGGAGUUUUUCUUAAAUGGAAAACUAUGAUCGAAAACUAGACUGGCAAGAAAAUCAAGCGGCUUAGGACGGACAAUGGAGGGGAAUAUAAAAGUGAUCCGUUCUUCGAUGUGUGCCAAGAGUAUGGUAUUGUUCGACACUUCACAGUUAGGGAUACACCACAACAGAAUGGAGUGGCAGAGCGUAUGAAUCGAACAUUGCUGGAGAAAGUUCGAUGUAUGUUGUCCAAUGCUGGGUUGGGCAAGCAAUUUUGGGCUGAGGCUGUGACAUACGCUGGCCAUCUUGUUAAUCGUUUGCCAUCAUCUGCAUUAGAAAGAAAAACUCCUAUGGAGGUAUGGUCUGGAAAACCGGCUACAGAUUAUGAUUCCUUACAUGUGUUUGGAACCACUGCAUAUUACCAUGUGAAGGAGUCAAAGUUAGAUCCGAGGGCAAAGAAAGCUCUCUUUAUGAGAAUCACUUCUGGAGUGAAGGGAUUUCGACUUUGGUGCUUAAGCACAAAGAAAAUGAUCUGUAGCAGAGAUGUUACCUUUGAUGAAUCUGCCACAUUGAAAAAGGUAGCAGAUAAAGAUAUUCAGACGAGCAAUACUCCACAGCAGGUGGAAUGUACUCCAAAACAGGUGGAGUUUGAGCAGAUGGGGAUUUGCCCAGUUAAUAAGUCUAAUUCUCCAGCCACAAUGGAGGAAUUAGAGGUUGAAGAGGUUCUGACCCAAGAACCACUAAGUACACCAGAACCAGUUGCAGUUGCAAGGCCACGGAGAGAAAUUCGUAAACCUGCUCGAUUUACUGAUAUGGUGGCCUACGUCCUUCCCGUUGUUGAUGAUAUUCCUAUCACUUAUCAAGAAGCAAUGCAAAGCUUAGAAAGUGAUAAAUGGAAAAGCGCCAUGGAUGAAGAAAUGCAGUCUCUCCGGAAGAACAAUACUUGGGAGUUGGCGCAAUUACCGAAAGGUAAAAGGGCAAUCGGAUGCAAGUGGGUAUUCGCAAAGAAAGAUGGAUCUCCUAGCAAGAAGGAUAUUCGCUACAAGGUAAGAUUGGUAGCUAAAGGCUACGCUCAGAAGGAGGGAAUUGACUACAAUGAUGUAUUUUCCCCUGUUGUGAAGCAUUCCUCCAUUAGAAUUUUGUUGGCCUUGGUAGCACAGUUGAAUUUGGAGCUAGCUCAACUUGAUGUUAAGACAGCUUUCUUGCAUGGUGAGUUAGAAGAGGAGAUCUAUAUGACUCAGCCCGAAGGAUACACAGAUGCUGGUGGUAGAAAUUGGGUUUGUAAGCUGAACAAAUCGCUAUAUGGAUUGAAGCAAUCCCCGAAGCAGUGGUACAAGCGAUUUGAUAGCUUUAUGAGAAGACAGAAGUACACAAGAAGCAAAUAUGACAAUUGUGUAUAUUUGCAGAAGGCUGCAUGAUGGAUCUUUCAUUUAUCUACUCUUGUAUGUUGAUGAUAUGUUAAUCGCUUCGAAGAGCCAAAAUGAGAUAGAUAAGCUGAAGGCUCAGUUGAAUCAAGAGUUCGAGAUGAAAGAUCUAGGUGAGGCCAAGAAGAUUCUCGGCAUGGAGAUAAGUAGAGAUAGACCGAGAGGCAAUCUCUGUUUAAAUCAGAAGCAAUAUCUGAAAAAGGUAUUACAAUGUUUUGGUGUAAAUGAAAACACAAAACAUGUAAGUACCCCACUUGCUUCUCAUUUGAAACUUAGUGCUCAAUUAUCUCCGAAAACUGAAGAAGAAAGAGAAUAUAUGGCGAAAGUCUCAUAUGCUAAUGCAGUUGGGAGUUUGAUGUAUGCGAUGGUGUGUACGAGGCCUGACAUUUCACAAGCUGUUGGAGUUGUGAGCAGGUAUAUGCAUGAUCCUGGAAAAGGACAUUGGCAAGCUGUGAAAUGGAUUCUACGGUAUCUUCGAAAAACUGUAGAUGUUGGUUUAAUUUUUGAACAGGAUGAAGCACUUGGUCAGUUUGUAGUUGGAUAUGUUGAUUCCGACUUUCCUGGUGAUUUAGAUAAACGUCGUUCAACUACGGGGUAUCUGUUUACUCUUGCGAAAGCCCCAGUGAGUUGGAAGUCUACCUUACAGUCUACAGUAGCUGUGUCUACUACAGAGACAGAAUAUAUGGUAGUUACAGAAGCUGUUAAGGAGGCUAUUUGGCUUAAUGGAUUGUUGAAAGACUUAGGAGUUGUUCAAAGUCACAUAAGUUUAUAUUGUGACAGUCAGAGCGCUAUUCAUUUAGCGAAAAAUCAAGUCUAUCAUUCAAGAACCAAGCAUAUCGACGUAAGAUAUCACUUUGUGCGGGAAGUCUUUGAAAAAGGAAAAAUUCUACUUCAGAAGAUUCCGACAGCAGAUAAUCCCGCAGAUAUGAUGACCAAGGUGGUAACAACAAUCAAGUUUAAUCAUUGUUUGAACUUGAUUAACAUCCUGAGAAUUUGAGCACCUUCAGGUGUAUGGCGCUCGAGAGUGCAUUUGUAGGCACUACAAAAGAUAGCUUUAUCGAAUUUGGGGAGUUGAAGGAAGUGUGUGAAGAUGUGAUUAUCCUAAUCAAAUCUUCAAGGUGGAGAUUGUUAACAUUAAUGGGAGACAACAUUAAUGGCAAACAAUACAAAGUGGUGCAAGUUUAGCACCCUAAAGUUGACUUUGAAAAAGUGGCAUGGGAUAAUUUUUUUUGGUCCUUGAGAUAAUGGACUAUUUAUUGUUUGGUCCUUAAACCUCAACUAUAAAUAGGCCUUCUCAUUUCUCAUUUCAAUUCAUCCCAACCAAUCUUUCUCUCUUAGUUUUCUCUCUUCUCCCAUUUGAGAAUUCUUAAGGAAUUCUAUUUGUUUGUAAUACUUUGGAGAUAGUAAAGUUAUCAUCUGGUGUUAGUGCCCGAGGACGUAGGUAUAAUUUACCGAACCUCGUUAAAUCUCUUGUGUUCUUUCUUGUCCUAUUUUUCUUUCAAUAUUUGAGGGUAUAAUAGUAGUAUUUAAUUGUGCUAUUAAAUUACUAUAGAAGAGAUAUUCUGUCUAAGGAAAGACUUGGUAUUUAAGAGAUCCAUGUGAUCCACCUCUCUUCCCUGGGAAUUGAACUUUGUGUGAUUUUUUAGUAUAAUAAUUUACACGCUUCUGACCCUAUUGGAACAACACAACAUUUGCAACUUUUCUUUCUUUCAGGACAGAAUUUUUUAAUGGCGUAAUUGCCUGUUUUCUUUCGAAAACGAUUUUUCUUCUUAAAACCCUUUCUAUGGCUUUUAAAUUUUUUCUCUUUAUAGAUUUUUUUUCUUUUUCUUUUUCUCGUAGACUGGUUUGCAACCAAAUCUUUGAGGUACAUCUUCAAAUGAAUUACAACAUUUGAUUGACAUUUUUAUUGCCUUUUUAGCAGUUUUCUUAGCACAUUCUUCUGCUAUAUAUUUUCUUACUUCAGCAGCCAUCGAUCCUAACGAUGAAGGCUGGUCUGAGUCUUUUACAUACCUUUCCCUAAUAAUAUUAUUAAUGGGAUAUGGUAGUUUAUUAAUAAAUAUAUCUUCAUACAUAUCCGUUUCUAUAGUCGGGAUUUGGUAGAAGUAUUUGCUAUAUUGACAGAGAAAUUCUUCAAAAUACAAAGGUUACAUCAUUGUAUAUUUGUUAAGACAUGUUUAGUCACAUCUUUGUUGGUCAUUUCGGCGAUCGCUUGCCCUGGGACCCAUUUUAUACCACAAAAUUCUUGUAGUAUAUCUCUAGUUGUUUCCCUAAGAACUUGGGCAUUAUCGAAUGCUCCAAUAUGAUUGUUUCUAGAUAUUAAAUAUCUAUGAACAUUACCAGUGGUUUUAUAUAAGACAAAGUUGUAAUAACUAAGUCCAUCUGUUUCACUUAAUUCUUUAUUAAGGGUUAGCGCUAAUAGCAUUCUAUUAUACCAAUUUUGCACUAUAUUAAGUUUAUUAAUUGUGCAGUCUAGGUAUAAUAGUUCUCCUGUACUAGAUCCCUCUUUAGGUCUGUAUAAUCCUUGUCCAGGUCUUAGUCUUCCAUUUUUAUCUCUGACAUAAUCAGAGGUUGGAACUUGUUCAAAAUUACUUCCUGAGCUUUCGCCCGGUAAAUUUUGAGAUUCAGUAUUACCUGUAGGUUCAUCAGCCAUAUUUACCUGAUCUUCAUCUGGAGGAUUUUCAUCUCCUAGAAUGAAUUCAUUGGUUUCUUCAAUUAUGGGUUGAAGAUUAUCACUUAGAUCUUAUUGAUCUAGUAUUCUCCCAAGUUCUUCAACUUGAUUAUCCGUUUGAUAUAGAUGAUCAAACGAGUCAUGACUCUGUGGACAAGUCAUUGCUUCUACCAUUUCUGUUGGUAGGUUUGUCGUUUGUGCCGACACUUCUUUUGGGCCUUUUUGGGAUGGUCUGCUCCAGAGUUUAUCCCUUAGGGACAGAGGCUCAACAGAUUUCUUUCUAAGGAAACCCUUAGAAAUUUCUAACUUUAAAGAGACACAGAAGCGAAAGCUUCAACAAACUCGUUUUGAGAGAAAACGUCCUUCUUUUACCCUGAUUAAAACCCUCGAUUGAGGCUCCUUAUAUAGAAAUCCUCAAUACAAAAGAAAUGAUCCUAAAUCCGACACGCCAACCGUUAGUACAAUACGCGUGAAAGGAUAUAAUAAAAAAUAUUUUUAAAAUUUAAAUUUAAUUAAGAAUAUAAAAAUAUUUUUAAAAUUUUAUUAUUUUUGAACUCUCACAUGAACUUUUCUGAGUUGACUGAGCUGGGCUAAAAAUAGAUUAGGCUUGAAAAAAUUUCAGAUUAUUUUUAAGAGUAUACCAAGGAGUCUAAUAAUUACAAUUUUUUUUAAAAAGUUUUAAUAACACUAGAAAUCUUAUCACACACAUAUGCGUGUGAAAAUCACGUAUUUAGAAUACAUAGUUUGUGUUUAAAAAGAACAUAUAAUAAAUAAUGAAGAGUAUGAUUCGGAACUAAUUAAUAAUAACACAUGCAAUAUGUAUGAUAUUAAAAUAAAAAUUAGAUUAAACUGAGAGUAAAACAAAAUUUAAAUACAAAAAUAGAUGAAUAUUAAAUGAAAACAAAUGUUUAUCAUUGUUUUGUCUUCAAUACAGAGUUAGUGUCAUGUUCAUUUGUGACGCUAAAUCAAUUACAUUAUUUACAUAUACAAAUAUAUAAAAAUUUAGAACACAAAUAUACUUAUUAAAGUUUCAAGGAAAACUUUAAAUUGUUUUAGUUAUAAUGUAAAUGAAAAAGCUUUAUAUGCAUGGUGUCCCCUAGUUCAAAUAUCAUUAUGGGUAAUUUUUUAUUGAUUUAUAAAAAAAAUAUAAAAUGAUGAAAACACCCUCAUAAACGUAUAUCUUACUUUGCAAAUAAAAUAGUAUUUUUGGUAAUUUUCUUAUUGAGUUGGGACUCGAUUGAUGAGUAACACUAACUUAAUAAAAUGCUUAAUACAUAGUAUAGAUAAAACAAUUCAAAACUAAAAAUUUUAAAAGAAUUUAGGGUAAAAUUCAACUAUGGUUAAAUUUUCAUUUUGGUCACUUAACUAAAAAUGUUACAAUUUGAUCACUAAUGUUUUCGAAAUUAUUUUCUUUUUGUCACCCAGCUGUUAAGUGGCACUUGUUUCAGUUGGUAUAAUAAAAAUUCUAGUCAUCAAUUUUUAUAUUUUCUGUCAAUUUCACUCUGAUUGUGUAUAAAAAAUUAUUAAAAUUAUUAGAUUUAGUUAUUAGAUUUAAUUUCAAGUUGUAACAUAUGAUUAUGCAUUCUUAAACCCUGUUGUCCCAUACUUUUCGAUUAAUUAUUAGAUUUAAUGAUAAAUUUAGCCUUUAACGUUUGAUUAUUUUAUUAAAAUGGCCCUAAUUGUGUUUUUGAGUUUUUUUUCUAUCAAUUUUUGUUCUUUUUUUCAAUCUUCUUUUUUUUUUAAAUAGAUUUAAUGAAAGUACCUUAAAAAAGUUAAACGUGAUAAUAUGGAAUUUCAUAUGUCGAAUAUUUUUAAUGAGAAGUAUGAAAGAUUGAAAACUUUUGAAAGAAAAUAAAUAUUGAAACAAAGGUUGAUGGUAAAGAAAAGCUCAAAAAUAGAAUAGGGUCAUUUUGACAAAGCAAGUAAAAAUUGGUGACCAAAUUUAUAAUUAAACCUAAUUAUUAUUAUUAUUAUUAUUAUUUAAUGCCAAUUAUAAUGGGUGACAGCAAAGAAAAGAGUCAAAAAAGAUGGAUUUCUUACUCGUAUCCACAACAUUCGUCUUUUUAUACAUGUAAUUAUUAAUUAUUUUCUCUUUCUUCUUCUUCUUCUUCACAUACUUUCCCAUUAAUUCCUAUCACAAUUUUGCUUAUUUCUAUUUUCACCUUCUUCUUCACUCUUUUUAAUUUCUUUUCAUCUCCAAGGUCUAUCACUAAUUUUCAAGCAUCCAGUCAAGGUAAUUUUCUUUCAUUUGCUUCAUUCAUGACUAUACAAUGAUUGUUUUUUAUUAUCAGCUACUGUUAUAGCAGCUAGCUUUGUAAGAUAGUCAAGGUAAUAAGAUCUGAAGCAAUGGUUUCCUCUAGUGAUUAUCAACAGUUUUAGAUUUCAAGACUGGAUGAUCAGCAGACAUAAUCUACUAUAGUUAGAAAUUAAUUCCAAAAGAGCUACCCGGAAGCAAUAUAAUGUUGAAAUACCAAAAUGUUGAACAUUUUACCUCUUAAUAUUCUGUUGCACACUUGAAUGUAGAAAAAUCUUUUCUUAUUUUCACUCUUCUAAUUUUUAAAAAAAAUUACCACUCUUCUUCCUCCUUGGGUUUAUAUACUUUGGGUAGAAGAGGAAGGCGAAAUGGGAUAGGACCCAGAUCGGGUCGGGUUGACAUAGGAAAUGGGUUGUAUGAUGAUCAAGGUUUUUAGGGUUUUUGCAUUGAAGAAGAAGAAAGGUGGAGAAAGAAAAGACAAAGAAAAAAAAAAGAAAAGGUGAUUUUUUUUUUCUGAAAAACUGAAAUCAGAAAGGAAGGGCUUUGCUUUCUAGGAGAUAGUGUAUUUUAAUGGGAUAUUAUGUAUUUGUUAUAUUGCUCUUUAAUUCCUGGGCUGCAAUUGCAUGCAUACAUGGAUGAUGUAUGUGAGUUGUGUAUCUUUUUUGCUGGAUUUUCUAUAUUGUUUUCCUCCUCCAUCUAUCUUUUUUUUUUUUUUUCAUUUUAAUUGAUUCAAUGGGUUUUGUUGAUUCAAUUAGAAUCAUUUGAUUUUUAAUUUGCUGAUUCAAUGGGUUUAUUGAUUCAAUGAGUAGUAGUAUCACUUGAUUUAUUUGCUUAGUGAUUCUUCUCUCAUUUUGACCCAACAAAAAUUGUCUUCGUGGAUGAAAAAAAUGGGAUAACUUUGCUCGCAUUAGGGGUUCACAGGACGAAAUUUCAAGUUUAAUAGGAGCCAAAACUAUUAUGGAAGAAUUAAAACUAAAAAAAAAAAAAAAACUUGAGAUUAUUUUGAAUUAUCAGAAGAACCAUGGGGAGAGAUUGAAAAGUAGAAAAGGAGUUUCAUGGAUGUGAUGACUAGAAUUGAAUGUGUGAAAGUUACAGCUCAAAAUAUUUAAACCUCGCCAUGCUAGGUCUGGCUAGACAGUCCAAACCCAAUUAAUGACUGUAGGACAUUCCCACUAUAAAUUAUCCAACUACACUUCGUGUAAAAAGACGAAACACAAAAAAGCUAAAAGAUAGGAAUUCUUCCUAGUAAUUCUGCCUUUGUGGAACCUACCUCGGAAUUUUUCCUGUUUUUAUCUUAACUUUCUUCUUCGUUUAGGCUAUUGUACCCACAACAUUCUUUCUUCUUCACUGUUUUUAAUUUCUUUUGAUUUCCAAGGUCUAUCACAAAAUUUCAAGCAUCCAGUCAAGGAAAUUUUCUUUCAUUUGCUUAAUCCGUAACAUGCUUUUCUUUGCUUAAUUCAUGACUUUGCAAUGAUUGUUUCUGGUUAUCUGCUACUCUUAGCAGCUAGCUUUGUAAGACAGUCAACUUCACUGCUUCAUUUUCAGUUCUAUUCUCUCAACACUUUUCAGCCACUAAGUCAGGUAAUAAGAUCUGAAGCUAUGAUUUCCUCCACUGAUUAUCAACAGUUUUAGAUUUUAAGACAAGUUGAUCAGCAGACAUAAUCUACUCUACAUUGAAAUUAAUACAGAAAGAGCUACCCGGAAGCACUAUAAUGUUGAAAUCUCAUACUUAACAUUUUAACUCUUAAUAUUCUGUAAUGAACUGUUGCACACUUGAAUCUAGCAUUUUAUAUACAUUAAGAGCUUAAUUCUGGUGACCAGAAUUUCAUCAUGUUUCUGUCUGCCACCCAUCCAUAGCUCCAUCUAAUAAACGCCAUUGCUUGAAACUUGCAAUCAUGUUUUCCUUUUCAUGCUUACACUGACAUAUCAAUACUUCAUAAAAUAUCCAAUUCAUUCUCUGCUACUGUUAUCUAUGAUUGCAUUGCAGGGACAUAGCAAUGGAGUACGUAGAGCCUGUUGUUGGCAUUGCAAUUUGUCUCGGCACUCCUGUUUGUAAAUAUUUGCAAUAUCACAGAAAGCUGAACAACUAUGUGAGAAACUUCAAGAGGAUCAGAGAUGAGUUGAAUUGCAAAAUGGAAGAUAUAGAGCUGCAAUUGAAAGCAGAGCUUCUUCGGCCUCUGGGGAAGAUACCAAAGAAGGGAGUUGAAAAUUGGUUGAAAGAUGUGAAAGAGAUGAUUCGGGAAGCACUACUUGUUGAAAACAAAGUCAGUAACGGGAGAUAUCUCUGUCGUGCUUGCAACGGGAAGCUGGUUGAUGUAAAGACUCGAGAAAUGAAGGAAUUUCUUGAUAAAGCUCCUAAAGCCUCUGAAGGUCUUGCCAUGGAUGGUCCAAGUGGUGGGUUGCCGCUGCCAACAUCAGAACUAGUUGGAGAGGAAGCUGUCAGAAAUGAGAUUUGGGCAUGUUUGAUGCAGGAGGAGGUGAGCAAGAUUGGAGUUUGGGGGAUGGGCGGUGUGGGUAAAACCACUAUCAUGAAGCACAUCCACAAUGAUCUUUUGAAAGAACAAAGAUUCGAAAGGGUAAUCUGGGUUACCAUAUCAAAGGAGUUCAAUGUAAUGAAGGUACAAGAUAAUAUUGCAAGUGCGUUGAAGGCGAAGGAAUACUUAGACAAAGAAGAGGACAAGGUCAGACGAGCAGCAAUCUUGUCAGAAAUGCUGAAGAACGCAGGAAAGCAUGUUCUAAUCCUAGAUGAUGUGUGGGAUAAAGUCUCUCUAGAGGAAGUUGGGAUCCCCAAGGCAAGUGGCGGCAAUGGCUGCAAGUUGGUGUUGACAACUCGUUCGGAGCAUGUCUGUAAGUAUACGGGUUGUAAGGUGAUAAAAGUGAGGCCCCUUUCAGAAGAAGAGGCAUUGAUACUAUUCUUGAGUAAAGUUGGACCUAACAUAGUUCAAUGUCCAACUAUAAUGCCAACUCUGAAGCUUGUUGUCAAGGAAUGUGCGGGUCUACCUCUUACAAUUGUCAUGGUAGCUGGUACCAUGAAAGGAGAAUAUAACCCUCGUAUUUGGAAAAAUGCACUCAAAGAUUUGAAAGAGAGAAUAGGGAAAGUGGAAGGAGUGGAAGCUGAGGUAAUCGAGCGCUUGAAAUUCAGUUUCGAUCACUUGAAAGAUGAGAAAGUAAAAGAUUGCUUCUUGUAUUGUGCAUUAUAUCCUGAAGAUUAUGAAAUUCAUAAGGUUGAACUAAUCGAGUGUUGGAUUGCUGAGAUAUUCAUAGACGAGAUGGACACAAGACAAGAAAUGGAAGAUAAGGGCCUUACUAUUUUGAAAAGGUUGGAAGAUAACUGCUUGUUGGAAAAUAAUACCACUCAAUUUGGUUUAAAUGGUAUAAAGAUGCAUGAUGCAGUGAGAGACAUGGCAUUGUCGAUCACAAGAAUGAAUCCUCGAUAUAUGAUACAAGCAGGUUCGCAAUUAGAAGAGUUACCGGAAAAGGGGCAAUGGAGUCCGGAUAUUGAGAAAGUGUCACUUAUGUAUAACUCCAUAUCAGAAAUUUCCAUAGAUGUGCUGCCCACAAAAUGUCAACUGCUCACAACCUUGUUAUUGCAGCAUAACCCUAUAAAGAAGAUUCCAUAUUCUUUCUUCUUAAACAUGCCCUGUCUUUGUGUCCUAAAUUUGUCCUAUACAGAGAUCGAGAGUUUACCAAAUUCCAUCUCUGAACUAAAGAACCUCACAACAUUGUUGCUUUGUGAUUGUGAAGAAUUAAGAGAUCUACCAUGUCUUUCGAUGCUUCAAGAAUUGAAGAAGUUGGAUCUAAGUUGGACUAAAAUUGAGGAAGUCCCUGAAGGAAUGGAUAUGCUGAUAAAGCUAAGAUAUCUUGAUCUUAGAGUGCACACUCUGAAAGAGAUACCCGCUGGACUUUUACCAAAACUCGUUCACCUUCAACACUUGGGUUUUUAUGAGAACAAUGAAAAAACAAGUCUAAAAGCAGAGGAGUUGGAACCAUUGAUGAAGUUGGAAUGCUUUACCGGACGUUUCGAAGAUAUCAAUGAAUUCAAUAAGUUCAUCUCCUCAAUGAAACUAAGUAAGAAAAAUCUCAUCAAGUACCAUUUACAGGUGGGCUCAUCUUUUAUGCUUGCUACAAGAGAUAAAACAGUAACAAUUGGAGGAGUCCAGAAUUGGGAAGGUGAGUCAAUUAUGCACCCAAUUGAAAUUCAACAGUUGAAUAUUUCAAGUUGCAACUAUUUGAGAAACUUAGUCGAUGAUAAUUCUUCCUUCAAAAAAGUGAUUGGCUUGAGGGUUUGGGUUUGUGAAGGGAUAGAGUGUGUUGUUUCCCUGUCCUCUUUUGCCUCUUCUUCCACUCAUCCAUUUCAAAGCCUCGAGGUGUUAGAUCUUGGAGAUCUGCCAAAGUUGAGUGCCCUUAUUAUGAAAGAUGCAGGAAUUGGUUCAGCAACAACAUCAACAUCGGCUCCGUCUGCCACCUUUUCCCAUCUUAAGGAAAUUAGGAUAUACAAAUGCCCAGGUAUGAAGACGUUGCUUCCACAUUGGUUGCUUCCAAACCUCCAAAGCCUGGAAGAAAUACAUGUGGGUGCUUGUAGUCAGCUAGUAGAAAUAUUGGGAGCAGCAACAUCAAAAGUUGAAGAAAAAGAGAGUGAUGCAUUAAUCAAAUUCCAUCUUUCCAAAUUGAGAGUAUUGAGACUAAAUAAGUUACCAAAUUUGAAGAGCAUAUGCAGCAAAAGUGGAGUGAUGGUUUGUGAUUCUCUCCAAGUUAUCAAAGUUUUUGGAGAUUGUGAUAAACUGAAGAGAAUUCCUCCAUUUGUUCCCCUUGUUGGCAAUGGGCAGCCAUUUGUAUAUGCUCCACCUUCUCUUACAAUCACGUCAGACACAGAAUGGUGGGAAUCGUUGGAGUGGGAUGAUCAUCCAAACUUUAAAAAUGUUCUUCAACCCCUUUGGAAGCUUUUAAGGUAUCAACCAUUUAUAGUUUAGUUUAUUCGAUUUAUUUUAUAAAUCUAAUUUCUCCAUUUUAAUACCAUUUCAUUAAUCCAACUUCUCCAAGUUAUCCAACUUAUCCAACUUAUCCAAGAUGCUGGAGACUGUUAUAAACUGAAGAGAAUUCCUCCAUUUGUUCCCCUUGUUGGCAAUGGGCAGCCAUUUGCAUAUGCUCCACCUUCUCUUACCAUCGGGUCAGAGACAGAAUGGUGGGAAUGGUUGGAGUGGGAUGACCAUCCAAACUUUAAAAAUGUUCUACAAUCCUUUGGAAGCUUUUAAGGUAUAUGAACCAUUUAUAGUUUAGUUUAUUUUAUUUAUUUUAUAAAUCUAAUUCCUCCAUUUUAAUACGAUUUCAUGUUAUAUUUUAUUUAUGUUUGAAGAUGAUGAGGCCUCCAUUGGUGCCAAAGAAGUAGAAGAGAGUAGCAGGGCGGAGGAUGGUGCAAAAGAGAGGAUAAAAAAGGUGGGAAUAAAAGGAAUGAUGGAUGAGGAAUUGAGCAGCCACCAUAAUAAUGGACUCCUUUUCCAUUGAAUCAAAUAUUAUUAUGUUCUAUUAUUUAGAAAAUCUUUAUAUGUUCUUAAACAGAGAUGUUUUUAAAAUUAUUUGUCUUUAAAAUUAUUAAACUUAUUUAUUAUUCUUCUAUCAAUCAUUUAUGCAUUUUUUUACUAAUGAUUCUAAUAAAAGUUUUAACAUUCAAAAGCAUAUAAGUUGAAAUAAAUUUUUUCAAUUUUAAAAUAUGCAACUUAAAAAGGUACUCCAUUAUUUUCUUAAAAUAAUAUCAAAUUAUGACUACCUUUAAAGUAUAAUUGAGUGGAUAAAUCACACCGUUGGUCAUUUUAAACUAACAUUAUUUCUAUUUUGGUCACUCUAUAAUUGCUCGAAUUAGUUGGUCAUUUUAAACUAACAUUAUUUCUAUUUUGGUCACUCCAUAAUUGCUCGAAUUAGUCAAUGACAUUGACAUUUUUUUAUUUUGGACUAAAGCUAGGGACUUUUAUGUAAUUAGCCCAAAACAUUUGUUUUUGUUUAUUUUGCAACAUAAGAACCACAUGUCACCACUCAUCCCUUGCUUUCCAUUGCUCCUCACUGCACAAUAAGAGCCACGUUUCAUCACAAUGGUGUACAAAGAGUGUUGGCUGUGUUUUGACUAUCGUACAAAUUAGUGUAGAAAUACAACUGAACAAACUUUCGAGUGGAUACUAUUGGGAAAUUGUAGGUAAAGUUGGAGCGAAAAACACAACCACGUCUCUUUUAUGGAAAAUGGCCUGAAAAAAGCCUAAUAAACCCAGUUGUGUAUUCAACAAAUGGGUUUCAACCCUCCUUUCCAGCCACUCCCACCGCUGAUAAAUUGAAAUUAUUUGUAAAUUUUAAAAGUUAAUCUUUUAAAAUUAUAAUUAAAUCGAUAUAAUAUGUAAAAGUUGAGAAAUAAAUUUAUUAUUAUAUUAAUUUUUUAACUAAUAUAUCAUCCUCUCAUUAGAGAGGUUUAAGGCACUUAAAGGAAAUAGAUAAAAAAAUAUCUCGAUUAAUUGAGUGAUCAAACUACAAAAAUUAAUAAUUGAAUGAUGAAAAGGAAAAGAGAUAAUGACUAGAUGUAAUUUACCCAUAUUUUUAAAAAGCGUAUAAAAAAUACAGAGGAAUGGGCUGGUACUUUGAAUGGUCCAAUUAGAGUAGCAAUUGGUGGCUCCGAUGCUAAUUUAAUUUCUACACCAUAACAUGGAAUUUUGCACCAAAGCUGAUCCCACGGUCAUCUCAAAAUAAUGCUCAUCAUAUUUUAAUUUAUCACACUUGGAAUUACAGACGCUGCACUUUCAUAAGAUAAAUUUUUAAGAAUUUGGAAUGUUAUCAUUAAGUAACUAAAUUUAAGUAAAUUAAAAUAUUUAAUAUAAAAAUUAUAAAAUUAUAAUGUCAAAAAUUUGUGAGAAGUGUAUUACAAUUAUGGGAUAUUUUUAAUCUUUUUGAGAUAAAAUUGUUCUUUCAAUAUGAUCCCAUUUUUCUCAUGGUAACUAUGUGAUCCAUGACAGUGUUUACUUCUCAUUUAUCAUGUAAUGCUGAUGAGAGAAUAUAAUUUACCUUUUAGUUGAGCUAUGAAUUUCAUUGUUGAUGAAUGAUGCUACAUACUAUAAAGGUCAUAUACCUAAUGCACCAACUUUCAGUUCCUUAUCUAUUUAAACUCAGACUUUCGUUUACAUCAAAGUAUACGAAUCACACAUACAUAGUCCAUCAUCUACUCAGGAUUAAAGUAUGUCACACCAUGAACGUCACAAAUGAAUAAAUCUACAAGUGAGUUACAUCUAUGUCUCUAUUUUCUAAGACUCAAUCUCUCCAGUACCGAAGAUAAAGUAUUUCCUUAAUUGGAUUGGAUAGAUAACAUGUUAUCAUUUCAAUCAGUUUGCUCUUUUUUUAUUAGACUAAGGACAUUUUUAGAUUAUCUAUUAAUAUAAAUUGUUUUUCCAUAUUAUGAUCCAACCAUGUAAUACCGUUUGGUAUUAGUUAAAUGUUAGAUAAUUAUUGGGUCAAUAUUUGUUUUGCGUGCAAAAAUCAUAAAGAAUAAUAUACAAAGGAUAUUAAUGUAAUGAAUGAAUAUUUUAUUAAAUCAAUUUGUUCAAAAAAUAUAAGUAUAUAUUGACGAAAAUAUUAAAAUAAAGACACUAGAUCUAACAGUCUCCCAUUUGACCUAGAGAAGUAGAUAAGUCAUAUUUCGAAUUCCCAUAUUUUCUACACGUUUCUCAAAACUCCUAGCCACCAAAGUCUUGGUCAAUGGAUCCGUAAGGUUGUCCUCUUAUAUGACUUUGACUACAUCCACUAUUUCAUUUGUUAUUGCCUCCUUUAUGAUAUGAUACUUUCUAUCAAUAUGUUUUGUCCUUUUGUGGUUUCCAGUUUCCUUGGUGUUAGCUAUUGUCGCACUAUUAUCACAAUACAGUGUGAUAAUUUUUUCCAUACCAUGAACAACUUCAAGACUCGUAAGGAAUUUCCAAAGUCAUAUUACUUAUUUUCUUGCCCCAAAAGCAACCACAUAUUUGGCCUUCAUAGUGGAUUCUAUAGUGUAACCCUAUUUGACACUUCUCCACACUAUGAACCCAUCGCCUAGGACAAAGUUAUAAACCGAUUUGGAUUUGCUAAAAUCUCGAACACAUUUGGAAGUCAAGAUCGAUAUAACAAAUAAGAGUGAGAUCUCUUCCAAAACAUACAAGCAUAUAAUUCAUCAUUAUUCGUAAAUACUUGAGUAUAUGCUUUAUUAAUUGCCUGUGUCUUGAGUUGGGAUUCACCUAAUAUCAACUCACCACCUAUUAUGAAAAAAAUAUCUAGACGUGUGUGUCACAAUAUACAUGAGGCUUCCUAUUGCCAAAGCAUAAAUAACAUUUCUCAUGUAUUCUCUUUCUUAAAGAGAGAUGAAAACUUGAUAUAGAAGAUUGAGAUCUCUUCUUGGAAUUUGUCGCUGCAAAACAUUCCAUUAUCUUAUCUAUGAAUGAAACUUUUGAUAAAGUUAUCACUUUGUUCUUUCAAUCCCUUAAUAUUCAAAUGCCCAGAACAGAGUUAGUUUCUCCCAAAUCCUUCAUUCUAAAUUGUUGGGUUAACCAUAAUUUAACCAAUGACAAUGUCUCUACAUAAUUCCCAAUGAAUAAAAUAUCUUUGACAUAUAAAAUAAGAAAUAUCACCUUUCCAUCCUUAAUACUUUUAUAAAUAAUAGGUUGAUCAAUAUUUUUCUCAAAUCUUAAAGUUUUGAUGGCUUGAUCAAAUCUUUGAUUCUUUAAGCGGGAUGCUUGCUUAUGUUAGUUGACAACCAUGAUUUUAAUAACCUUAAUAGUUAAUAAUUAAGGAUAACAAUAAUUUUUAAAGAUUCAAUUGAUAUUAUUUCAUUAUUUAUCAUAACAAUUUCUUUAUAUAAACAUGAACAUAUUUUAGAAUUAUGAAUGAAAUUGAGUGAUUAUUUCCUCAACAUUACAUAGAAUCUUUCUCUAAUUCUGAACAUGGUAUCAGAUUUAGGUUUGAUUUAGGGAAUUUUUUUUUCAAUUUUUUUUUGAAACCCUAGAACCAAAAAAUCUCAUCAAGUAUCGAUUACAGGUGGGCUCAACUGAUUGGCGUUCUACUGUAAAUUAUAAAGAAGAUAAAGUUUUAUGACUUGUAGAAGUGGGAAUUUUUAGAACCAAGUUAAUUAUGCUCCUGAUGGAGAUUCAGGAGUUACACAUUUCGUACUGCCACAAUUUGAGAAGCUUCAGCGAUGAUGUUUUUUCCUUCAAAAAUUCUAGUGACUUGAAGGUUUGUACAAUUGAGCAUUGUGAUGGGAUAUAAUGUGGUGUUGUUUUUUUCCUCUUCUUCCUCUCAUCCACUUCAGAGCCUUAGGUGUUGUUUCUUUACAAAUUGUCGACGUUGAGUGCCCUUAUCAAAGUUAACAGAUUUGGUUCAGCAACAACAUCAAUAUUGGCUUCGUCUGCUACCUUUUCCUAUUUUAAGAAAACUCACUUACCCAACUGCUUCACUAUGAUGAUGUUGCUUCCAUAUUGGUUGCUUCCCAACCUCCAAAAUCUACAACUAAUAAAAGUGAGAGGUUGUGAGCUAACAGAUACAUUGGGAGGACCAACAUCAAAACAUAAAGAAAAAAAGAAGUGAUGGAUUAAUCAAAUUCCAUCUUUCUUAAUUGAAAAAGUUGGUAUUGCAAGAGUUGCUAGAACUAACAAGCAUCUGCAAUAAAAGUGGGGUAUUGAAGAGCAUCUGCCGUAAGUUAGAAUUCCUUCAUUUGCUCCCCUUGUUGCAAAUGGACAGCCAUAUGCAUAUGCUUCACCUUCUCUGAAGCUUGAAUCAAUUUCAACAUGGUGGGAAUUGUUGGAGUGGGAUAAUCGUCCAAACUCUAAGAAUGUUAUUCAACCCCAUUGGCAUAAAUUGUGUAAUGUCAACAUUUUUAUUUAUUUGUACUUUAUAAUCUCAUUUCUCUAUUUUAAUGCAAAUUCUUGUAUUGUUUUAAGGUGGUGAUGAGAAAGUUGCUCCAUUGCAGCUUCAUUUGGAUACCUCUCAAGUUGUUUAGGAUGGAGAUGGCGGAAAACGUGGGGGAUAGUGUUGAGGACACCUUGAAUGGUGCUUAAGGGAGGGCCUGCUUUACCGUGCCGGGAGGGUCUUAAUUGUUGGAUCUACAAAAUUCAAGGGAGAAGUGCUAUCAUAGUACAUAUGAACAAUUAUAAAGCUCAUCUUGGGUACGGAGACUCGAAUCGCCAACUUAAAGCUUAUACUGCUUAGCUGCAUCCAUAAUACCACGUGGGCUAUUUACCAAACACCGGCUAUCGGCAAAGUAUGAGAGACAAAACCCUCACCGGGGAUAAUACCUUUGGUUGUUGAGAGAUUGAUUGACUACCCAACAGACGACACUUUAAAAGCUUCUCCCAAAGACUUUGACCUCUCUAAAAAUAUGUUUCAACCCAAGUAACUUAUGAUCCUAAGUGUCCCGAAAAAUAUUUUAUUCCUUGAUAUUCCUAAACCAUAGUUAAUACGGAUGGAACCAUUCAUCUGAUCGCUAUUAGCUUCAACAAUCUGCUCUGGUGGCAUCCACCAUUAAUAAUUUAAUGUUGCAGCAAAUAUGACUCCCAGGUUUGGUUCAUUUUGUCUUGUUUUUUUCUUUGCACUCAAUGUCUUAGAUCUCCAAAACACAUCAAGGUAGGCCCUGGAGGAGUAUAAAAAUUUUUGAAUCCAUGGCAACGUGAAACAACUUGACCUUUAACCUAUAAGAGCUAUCAAAACGUUUAGCCUAAAAAUAAACCAUGAGACUGUUUAUUGCUUUAAUCAUUUAAGUUUCAAUUGGUUCAGAAUUUUGAUUAAUUCUUUUGUUUCUCAAAUUCAUGUGGAUAUCAUUUAUAUAAUAUAUACUCAACACGAGUAUAUUUAAUAAAUCAUUCUUAUGUCCUGCUUUCCCAUAUUUUCAAGUCACUUGCAACAAUUUUUUUUACUCUAACUUAGGCUUCACACCAAACUAAACUAAUUGAUUUGAAACCUAUUUGGAAUAAUUGGUUACAUUAUUACUUGAACAAAUAACGUUUUUAAUGUCUUUAUUUUAUUUUGGCCCUUAAUUUUUUUUUUGUGUUUUAUCCCAACUUUUUAGAAUUUUUUUGUAAGUGACUUGAAAGGGAGUACUCUUUUUUCUCAUUUUAAUCUCACAUGGGCUAGCCGAUGGGUUAUACGUACAAGGCUAAAAUGAUUGUUUUAAAAAUUUUAUAUGUUUAAUUUUUAGAGUUAGAAUUAAAUUCACAAAUUUUGUAAAUUUUGAGGUCAAAUUUGUUGAAAUUUUUAUAUUUAGGAUCAAAUUGAUCAAAUGUGUAAACAUUAGAGGGCUAAUUUUGUUACUAGACCAAUAAAAAAGGCCACAUUAGUUUAGAGUGACUAAAAUAUUUAAUUUUAAAAAGUUUAGUGACUAAAUCAAAAAAAAAAAUAAUAGUUGAGUGACCGAAAUAGAAUAAAAAGCGUAGUUGGACAACCAUUUUUACAGUUUACGCAUAAAAAAUAGUUUUCAAGAUGUCCACGUAAUCUUUUAAUAGAUAAAAUUUAAUGGAGAAACUAAUUUACACGUUUUAAAAUGAAUAAAUGUCAAUUUACUCGUUUUUUCAAUAAAGAAAUGGAAAAGCAAUCCGCCCUAAGCGCAUCAACCUUCCUAAUACUUUUACCUUUGAGAUCCCUUAUAUUGUUCUGACAUUCAAGUAUGCAAAUCCAACUAUUUCCCCCUUUUAGGAUUUCUUAAAAUUUGUUUCCCACAUUCAAGGAUGCAACUGUAAACAUUUCCCCUCUUAGGAUCCCUAAAAUUUAUUUCCCCUUUAAAUAAACAAUUUCUUAUUCUUCCCUAAAAAAUAACUUGAUUUAUUUUAAAAUAUAUAUACUUCAAAAAGUAACCUUCUAAAAUAUUUAUUUUUAAAAUAUUAUAAUUAAUAUAUAUAUAUAAAAUUACAUUAUAAACUUAUUUUGAUAUGAUGUUGAAUCAAAUAUUAUCAUGAUCCUUUACCACUUUCAACAAUAGUAUUUUAUUUCGUAAAUUUUAUGUUAAGUAAACUUCAAAUUUUAUCAAAAAACAUAUAUAUGGUCCAAUUUUAGUAUGUGUUUAGAUAUGAUAGAUUGAUUGGAUGAAAGUUUAAUUACUAUUGUAAUAAUUGCACCCUCUUGUAAUUACAAAGAAUUAUAAUUUUCUAGACAUAUUUGGGUGACAGAGUGUAAUUACAUAUGAGAUAUUACAACGUCUAAAUGAAUAACAAAAAUUAAAAUAAAAUAAUCAUAUACAAUAUGUUAUUCCAAGGUAGUUGAUAAUACGAUUAAAUACCAAGGAAAAAUAAAUUUCAUAUGCAAUUUUGUCUAAUCUCUCUAGUAUUUAUUGUUGGGUUACAGGGACAAGCCAAAAGUUUUAUCUUUGUGAGGCCAAUUAAAUUACAAACCUUUAAAUGAGUCAAAUUACAAUUUUAUCUUUGUUAAUGCUUGUUAUUUUAGAAAGGUAAAGGGUUUAAACUGGAAUUUUUUCCAUCUUUGGAGGGCCAAACUGCAUUUUACCACUAAACUAACUUAUAAUUUUAAAAAUUUCAAGGGACUAAAAUGACAGUUUUUUAUUUUAAGGGGAUAGGGCCUCUACCUAACCCCCCCUUGGCACUAUCCCUAUGGGGUUAUUUGAUCUUUUAACAUUUAACAUAUACUCUAUUGCUCUUUUUCAUCAACAAUUGGUCGCUGAGUUUAUUGUCAUGUAAAUCUGAAUUCGUAUUUGUGUCAUUAAGAUUAUAACGAUCUUAUUCUAUUUACUUUUUAAUGGAUCGUCUCAAUUCCACCUACAAAUGAGGUUAUGAGAUAUGCAACAUGCUAAUGUAAUCCAACCUUAUUUUUUUAUACUAUAUCGAAUCAAUGUUAUUAAUAUAAAAAUCUUUUUUAGAAUAAUAUUAUAUCUCUACUUCAACUUGGACCCAGUUGGACCCUCCAAUGGGCCACUCAAGGCUUAUUAAGUAACAUAAUUAGGUAAGAAUCUUCACUCAGUUAUAAAUGCCCAAAGGUACCAACAUUAUUAUAGUGGUCCUCUCUAGACUCAAAGUUUGAAAUAUGCUAAACAUUCAUAUUGAGGCCCUCUACUUGACUGAUUCUUGGUCCUAGAAUGGGUGAAUCGGUCUUCCUCGACACCACCCCCUCCUCCUUCUCCACUCCCAUUAAUACUGUGUAUCAACAAUGAUAGAGGUGACGGUGGAUCGAACAUGCGCAAAACCCUAGAAAUUCACCCUCUCAAUAUACAAAGAAAAAAAAACCAAAUUUUAGGUUCAAAGAGCUUGUAUUUGUUGCCAAAAGAUUUGGAGAUUGAAAAAUACAUAGCUUUUGACACGAUUCAUGGUAGUUGGAUAUUUGUGGGCAAUCUAUUUUUAUUUCGGUAGUAUAUGGUAUGUGCUUGCAUUUUUCUUUUUCUUUUCGGUUGUGGUGCAUUGGUCUUUGAGUGGGGUUUUAGAAUAGAUAAUUUUCUCUGUGUACGAAUUUUAGUGGAAUUUGGGGUUUGAUUCUUUGAUCAUGGUUUUCCUGUUGUGAUAGUUGAUGGGGUUCAAGUGUAUUGUUGCAUGGUAAGAAUUUCAUGAUGUUUGCUUGUGGUUCGUCUCUUGUUUUAUUAUAAUUCACCGGUUUACUUUGUCAUUCAAGGGCUGGAUCCGAGGUUGUUUCAUUGAUUGAACUUCUUGCUGAUUCUUAGAGAGCUCGUAUGUUUGUAUAACAAAUGUAUUGCCUCUAUAGUACAUAAAAUAAAAGCAUAAUAGGGGGAUGUUAGACAUGGUCAUGCUGAUUCCACUCAAUUAUACAUUAAAGUAGAACAUGUCCUAAAUACACAAACAUAACGUAUGUUAUGUACUUGCUAAAACAUGUAUAAAUGUAGAAUAUCCUGAAAAUAGAAAUUACAAGAGUUGCCAGGUUCGGAAGAUAGGGAAUAAUGAGCUUCUUUCUGAUAACAUGCUGUUUGACUUCAACAUAAGUUAGUGUGGCUUGCAAAUAAUGCACCAAACAUGUGUUAAAAUUGCUUAUUGCUUUUAAUGUGAUUCACCACUAUUCUAUUGUACAUGCAAAUGCAAAAUAUGGUUUGCUCAUUACUUGUUCAUAGCUUCUCGGCUAACCUUUACAACCAUCAUUAAUUUUUUUUUAAUUUCCUUUUUAUAUUGUUGGCUUUUAUAUUACUGAAUGUUUCACUGAAUGUCAAAUGUUAGACUAAGUUAUAAUUCGAAGUUUUUGUUAUUUUGUGUGUGCUUUAAAUAUGUUUGGCUCAUUUUCUCCAGUAUGAUUGUUAGUCUAGAAUAAUUAAAUCUCUGGAAGCUAUGCUUGUUUAUGCAUCUCACUGCAACCAAUAUCACUGCAGUUUAAAUUACCUAUAGCUUGUGUUUUUUUGGUCAUCUACAGCCUUUGGUGACUAUCAAGUAAGACAUGAUACACAAUAACAUUAUUGCAACUCUUUAUCCCAGAGGUGUAAUCCCCUGUGUAUGUAUGUAUAUCAGCAGAGUGCAACACCCAUGCAUGUGUAUGUUUAUUAUAAAAAAGAAAGAUGGUGGUGAAUUAGAGGGACCUGCGAAGGUUCCCACUAGGUUUCUUGCAUAUGUGUUAUUAACAAUAAGAAAAUGAAUGGAAGGGGGAACCCUCCCACGGGCAUAGCCCUGCCUAUGUGUAUAUGUAUAUAUAUAUUAUUUUAUUUAAAAGAGAGAGAAUGAUGAUUGAAAGCUUUCCAUGGACAAUUACACUUCACGAACAGUAAUUACUCGACAUCUUUGCUUUUACACUAACAGGCGAUUAUACCUCCGUAGAUAGUAAACACUCGGUAUGGUUAUUUGUACUUAUCUAUACAUGAAAAUCUAUACGAGUUUGAGAAAGGGAACCUAUGAGGGGUUCCCACGAGUGGUUCUACCACCUUGCAUAUAUGUAUAGUCAUGUGGUAUAUAUGUUACACAAAGGGAACCCACGAAAGACUCCUACGGAUGAUUACUUGUUGUCUACAUUUAUGUAAUUCUACUUCCAUUAUGUAAACCCAAGUCGAGUAAACUUGGUCGAAGGUUGUGAUUUGACGUGGCAAGGCCUUACACUCCACGUAAUUCUGGCCUGCGAGAGCCACGAUAGUGUGAUCGACCUGUGAUUCUUACUGUAAGUCUCCCCCCAUGUGUUUAGGAGCAGGAUCUAUCAUAAGCCUUCCGCUCUAAGUGGAGAAAGCACCACCAUUUUUCCAUAAGUCUCCCCCCUUGCAUAUUGGAGCAGAGCCUUUAUUACCACUUUUCGUAAGCCUCCCUUAAUGUGUCUUGGAGUAGGACAUUCGCGCCCUUCUGUGAACCCUUUGGGCUCUUGAUGGAGGUAAGACAUAUCUUCUACAUUUCAGCCCGUUUGUGAACUCUUUGGGCUCUCGACAGAGGUGAGGCAUAUCUUUUACAUUCGGGCCCCUCCAUGAACCCUAUAAUGACUCAAUUUUCAAUGGUGUCAAAAAAUUUGAUUUUAGAACCUCAUUUCUAUAAACUGAGUUCAUAACUAUUAAAUAUGGAUAUUUACAGAGUUAGUAUAUAGAUGUAUUGCAAUUUAUUAAAUAAUUUAGUUGAAAAUGUGGUUAAUUAAGGCCUAGAGGCUAAAUUGUAAAAAGUUAAAUCACUAUAGAGUUUUAAUUUGAAAAAGGCUUAGGGACUUAGAUAAAAAUUAUCCAAAGGACUAAAAUGGCUAAUAGACGAAUUUUAAAUAGAUAAUAGUGGGAUGUGAUCUUGAAUGUCAUUAGAUAAUAUUAAUUAAAUAUUAAUGUUAAUUAAACACGAUUAAAGUAAUUAAUUAAGCUUAAUUAUAAGCUAACCUAGCUAUAUAAACCAAAUUUAGUGGAGGGAGAGAUGAAUAUUCAUCUUCUCCAACUAGCCAAAGGAGUAAAGCCAAGUAGAAACCCCAUUGUUGAGACCUUGUUCAUUCGACCAACAUUUACAAGUAAGUCUCUAGCCAUUUUUUUAUAUAGAUUUUUUUAUCAUGAGAGCUUGAUUAAGCUAGCUUAUGUAUCAAUUUGUUCAAUUGGUGAAAUUUUGAUAAGUUACCAUUGUUGAGAAUUGAAUGAAUUAGGCUUGAAAUUGAUAGAAAUUAAGCUUAGGUUAUCGAAAUGACUAAAUUGCAAAACUUAAUUCUUAGCCUUUUACAUUAGGGGCAAAAUUGAAUAAAAUGAAUUUUUUAUAAAAUUAUGGUAGGAAUAGAAAGUAUAAGGUCCCUAAUGAAUACAUGUGAAAUCAAAUUUUAUUCCGAAGCUUUAAAUCGAAAGUUUUGCUUAUCUAAAGUUUAGGACUAAAUUGAAUAAAUUGUAGAAUAUGCAUGAUUUGGUAUUUGAUUGUGAAUUGGAUGAAAAUUGAUAGUGUUAUAUGUUUUGUGAUUGUACGUAGCUAACGUCAGCACUGUGCCUUCGAAAGGAAAAAGAAAAGUGAGAGUUGUCGACGAGUGACGCAAGCCUACAAUUUGUACUUUUAUGAUUCAGGAUCGUAUUAUUUGUUUGCAUAUACAUUGUUUAUUGAAUGAGGAAAUGUCAAGGUGAGUAUAUAAUGAAAAUGUGAAUUGUUGUGUUAGGCUUGAUAUGAAAUAUUGAGAUAGAAGACUAAAAUUAAUAAAAUGGAAAAUCGCAUGAAUUACUUUGAAAUGUGAUAUGUGACAUGGAAAAUUGAGUAGAAAUAUGUUAUAUGGAAUGAGACAUAAUGUGUAUUGAUAAUGAAUUGGAUUGUGACUAAGGUUGUGAUUGUGAAAUGAUAUAUGUAUUGAAUUUUAAAAUAAAAUUGAACGUUGGUACCUUAUUAACUAGUCUAGUUGAGCCAGAUAGUUAACAUGUCAUAGGAUUAGAUUGUCUAUGAGUUUGUGCACCUAUGCGCCAGGAUGCACCUCGUGUGCCAAGAUGCAUUUUAUGUUCCAGUAUGCACUUUGUGCAUCAAGAUGCACAUUGUUUGCCAGUAUGUGUUUUGUGCGCCAGGAAUGUGCUUCAUGUGCCAAUAUGCACUAUAUGUGUCAAUUUCGUUACUUCAGUUUAUUUGAUUAUGCACUUCGGUGCUAGUUUGGUGUGUUGCUUGGACGAUCUGUGUAUUCGUUUGAGUCCUAUUAAUAGGGAUUAUAAGUGGUAAACUUGGUAAAUGAUAUCAAAAUGAAAUGGUAUGAUGAUAUGGAACCACUUGUGUACUGAUGUAAAUCAAAAUGAAGAAUUAUGUAAAUGGUUAUGCAAAACAGUUGAAUACGAGCCUUGGGGGCCAAAGCAAAUGUGAAUGACUCAAUAGACUUCAGAAAAUUUUUAUACGAAUCGUGUCCUUGGUUCAAAUUUCAUUAUGGAUAAUUUUUUAUUGAUUUAUAAAGAUAUGAAAGAUGAAAACACCAUCACAAUCAUAUAUCUUACUUUAUAAAUAAAAUUAUUUUUUCGUAAUUUUCUUACUGAGUUGGGACCAAUUGAUGGGUAAAACCAACUCAGUAAAAGACUUAAAAAAUAGUAUAGAUAAAAAGGUUUUAAACUGAAUUUUUUAAAAGAAUUUAGGGUAAACGACACCAUUAAUCACUCAAGUAUGGGUAAGCUUUCGUUUUGGUCACUUAACUAAAAAAGAGUUACAAUUUGGUUACUAGUGUGUUUCAAAUUGUUUGUUUUUCUGUCACCUGACUAUUAAGUGGCACUUGUUUUAGUUGAUACAAUAAUAAUUUUAGUCCUCAAUUUUUAUAUUUUCUAUCAAAUUGACCUUGAUUUUGUAUAAAAUUAUAAAAAAAAACUAAAAAUAUUUAUAAAAUAAGAAAAUGUAUAUAAAAACUCUAAAAAAUAAAAUCUUGAAUAUGUUGUUGAAUAACUGAAUUGUAUUGAGAAAUAAAGAAAAUUAUCAUUUAAUAGAAUCCAAUAACAAAUUAAAAAUAGAACAAAUCUAUGUUUCUUAAAAUCAAAUUAGUACUAUUUUCAAGUUGAAUUACAUGCCCUAGAAGAAUAUCUAAAACUGAUAUUACAAAGGCUUAUGAAAUUGACCUCGAUGCCAUUUUUUUAAUCAAAAGAAUACAAAAUAUACCAUAAAAAAUUUCUUUUUCAAACUCAAUUCAAAUUUUCAUUAUAUUUAAAUUAUUUUUCAAAAUCAAAAUUAUAAAAAUAAAUUAUAUUCAGAAUUUUAUAGUUUCUUAUAAUGUAAAAGCUACGUCAAGAAAUAGAAGAGGUAAAAAAACAGAGACAUGUCAUUUUUCUUAAUUUUUUUAUAUAUAUAUUUUAAAGAAUGGGUAUUGGAUAUUUUUAUAAAAAUAAUAUAGAGAAAUUUUGAAGGGUUUAAAACAAUUAUCCUCAUUUUCUCUCACUUUAUUUAAUUUUAAAAAUUUUAUCUACUUUUAUUUAAUUUUUAAAUUUAUAAUGUUCUAAAAUUUUAAAAAUAAUUUACUAAUGGGGUGCGAAUAACUAUACCUAAUGCAACUCAUUAUUAAAUAUGCAUUCUUAUACCCUGCCGUCCCAACUCUUAUUAUUAUUAAAUAUUAUUUAAUGCCAACUUCAAUGAUGUCCAAGGUCUAUCACCAAAUUUCAAGGUAAUUUUCUUUCAUUUGCUUAAUCAAUCACAUGCUUUUCUUUGCUUGAUUCAUGAGUUUGCAGUGAUUGUUUCUGAUUAUCUGCUACUCUUAGCAGCUAGCUUUGUAAGACAGUCAACUUCACUGCGUCAUUUUCAGUUCUAUUCUCUCAACACUUUUCAGCCACUAAGUCAGGUAAUAAGAUCUGAAGCUAUGAUUUCCUCUACUCAUUAUCAACAGUUUUAGAUUUUAAGACAAGAUGAUCAGCAGACAUAAUCUACUCUAGAUUGCAAUUAACACAGAAAGAGCUACCCAGAAGCAAUAUAAUGUUGAAAUCUCAAACUGUUAACAUUUUAACUCUUAAUAUUCUGUAAUGAACUAUUGCACACUUGAAUCUAGCAUUUUAUAUACAUCGAGGGCUUAAUUCUGGUGACCAGAAUUUCAUCAUGUUUCUGUCUGCCACCCAUCCAUAGCUCCAUCUAAAAAACGCCAUUGCUUGAAACUUGCAUUCAUGUUUCCUUUUCAUGCUUACACAGACAUAUCAAUACUUCAUCCAAUACAUUCACAGAUUUUCAUUAUCUGCUACUGUUAUAUAUGAUUGCAUUGCAGGGACAUAGCAAUGGAGUACGUAGAGCCUGUUGUUGUCAUUGCAAAUUGUCUCGGAACACCUGUUUGUAAAUACUUGCAAUAUUACAGAAAGCUGAACGAUUAUGUGAGAAACUUCAAGAGGAUCAGAGAUGAAUUGAAUUGCAAAAUGGAAGAUAUAGAGCUGCAAUUGAAAGCAGAGCUUCUUCGUCCUCUGGGGAAGAUACCGAAGAAGGAAGUUGAAAAUUGGUUGAAAGAUGUGAAAGAGAUGAUUAGGGAAGCACAAGUUGUUGAAAACAAAGUCAGUAACGGGAGAUAUCUCUGUCGUGCUUGCAACGGGAAGCUGGUUGAUGAAAAGACUCGAGAAAUGAAGGAAUUUCUUGAUAAAGCUCCUAAUGCCUCUGAAGGUCUUGCCAUAGAUGGUCCAAGCGGUGGGUUGCCGCUGCCAACAUCAGAACUAGUUGGAGAGGAAGCUGUCAGAAAUGAGAUUUGGGCAUGUUUGAUGCAGGAGGAGGUGAGCAAGAUUGGAGUUUGGGGGAUGGGCGGUGUGGGUAAAACCACUAUCAUGAAGCACAUUCACAAUGAUCUUUUGAAAGAACAAAGAUUCAAAAGGGUAAUCUGGGUUACCAUAUCAAAGGAGUUCAAUGUAAUGAAGGUACAAGAUAAUAUUGCAAGUGCGUUGGAGUCAAAGGAGUAUUUAGACAAAGAAGAGGACAAGCUCAGACGAGCUGCAAUCUUGUCAGAAAUGCUAAAGAACGCAGGAAAGCAUGUUCUAAUCCUAGAUGAUGCGUGGGAUAAAGUCUCUCUAGAGGAAGUUGGGAUCCCUGAGCCGAGUGGCAGCAAUGGCUGCAAGUUGGUGUUGACAGCCCGUUCGGAGCAUGUCUGUAAGUAUAUGGGUUGUAAGGUGAUAAAAGUGAAGCCCCUUUCAGAAGAAAAGGCAUUGAUACUAUUCUUGAAUAAAGUUGGACCUAACAUAGUUCAAAGUCCAACUAUAAUGCCUACGUUGAAGCUUGUUGUCAAGGAAUGUUCGGGUCUACCUCUUACAAUUGUCGUGGUAGCUGGUACCAUGAAAGGAGAAGAUAACCCCCGUAUUUGUAAAAAUGCAGGGGAAUUGAAAGAGGAAUAGGGAAAGUGGAAGGAGUGGAAGCUGAGGUAAUCGAGCGCUUGAAAUUUAGCUUCGAUCACUUAAAGGACGAGAAAGUGAAAUAUUGUUUCUUACAUUGCGCAUUAUAUCCCGAAGAUUUUGGAAUUGAAAAGGAUGAACUAAUUGAGUGCUGGAUUGAGGAGGGAUUCAUAGAUGAUAUGGGUACAAGACAAGAAAUGAAAGACAAGGGCCAUGUUAUUUUGAAGAAGUUAGAAGAUAAUUGCUUGUUGGAAAAUGUCUGGAGUGAAGAAAUGAUAAUGCAUGAUGCAGUGAGAGACAUGGCAUUGUCGAUCACAAGAAUGAAUCCUCGAUAUAUGAUACAAGCAGGUUUGCAAUUAGAAGAGUUACCAGAAAAGGAGCAAUGGAGUCCGGAUAUUGAGAAAGUGUCACUUAUGUGUAACUCCAUAUCAGAAUUUCCAUAGAUGUGCUGCUCACAAAAUGUCAACUGCUCACAACCUAGUUAUUGAAGGAGAACCCUAUAAAGAAGAUCUCAAUUUCUUUCUUCACAAACAUGCCUUGUCUUAGUGUUCUGAAUUUGUCCUCUACGAAGAUCAAAAGUUUACCAAAUUCCAUUUCUGUACUAAAGAACCUCACAACAUUGUUGCUUUGUUAUUGUGAAGAAUUAAGAGAUCUACCAUGUCUUUCGAUGCUUCAAGAAUUGAAGAAGUUGGAUCUAAGUUGGACUAAUAUUGAGGAAGUACCAGAAGGCAUGGAUAUGCUGAUAAAGAUAAGAUAUCUUGGUCUUCAAGUGUUCACUCCGAAAGAGAUACCCGCUGGACUUUUACCAAAACUCGUUCACCUUCAGCACUUGAGUUUUGAUGUGGACAAUGAAAAAACAAGUCUAAAAGCAGAGGAGAUGGAACCAUUGAAGAAGUUGGAGUGCUUAACCGGACGUUUUGAAGACAUCGGUGAAUUGAAUAAGUUCAUCUCCUCAAUGCAACAAAGUAAGAAAAAUCUCAUCGAGUACUAUUUACUGGUGGGCCCAUAUAUUAUGGGUCGUGGAAGGGAGAAAACAGUAACAAUUGGAGAAGUCGAGAAUUGGGAAGGUGAGUUAAUUAUGCACCCAAUUGAAAUUCAACUGUUGAAUAUUGUAAACUGCGACUAUUUGAGAAGCUUAGUCGAUGAUAAUUCUUCCUUCAAAAAUGCGAUUGACUUGAAGGUUUGUGGUAUUUGGGGGUGUGAAGGGAUAGAGUGUGUUGUUUCCGUGUCCUCUUUUGCCUCUUUUUCCGCUCAGCCAUUUCAGAGCCUCGAGGUGUUAUAUCUUCGAGAUCUGCCAAAGUUAAGUGCCCUUAUUAUGAAAGAUGAAGGAAUUGGUUCAGCAACAACAUCAACAUUGGCUCCGUCUGCCACCUUUUCCCAUCUCAAAAAAUUAAGAUAGUGAGCUGCUCAAGUAUGAAGACGUUGCUUCCACAUUGGUUGCUUCCAAACCUCCAAAACUUGGAAGAAAUAUUAGUGGAUCAUUGUGAUGAGAUAGUAGAAAUAUUGGGAGCAGAAACAUCAAAAGUUGAAGAAAAAGGGAGUGAUGCAUUAAUCAAACUCCAUCUUCCCAAAUUGAGAGAAUUGAGUCUACGUAGGUUACCAAAUUUGAAGAGCAUUUGCAGCAAAAGUGGAGUGAUGGUUUGCGAUUCUCUCCAACUUAUCCAAGUUGAUAGAGACUGUUAUAAACUGAAGAGAAUUCCUCCAUUUGUUCCCCUUGUUGUCAAUGGGCAGCCAUUUGCAUAUGCUCCACCUUCUCUUACCAUCAGGUCAAGGACAAAAUGGUGGGAAUCGUUGGAGUGGGAUGGCCAUCCAAACUUUAAAAAUGUUCUUCAACCCCUUUGGAAGGAUGAAAGGUAUGAACCAUUUAUAGUUUAGUUUAUUUUUUAUUUUGAUAAAUCUAAUUUCUCCAUAUUAAUAAAAUUUGAUGUAUAUUUGUGGUGAUGUUGAAGAGAAAGAUAAAAGGGUUGGUGGGAAAGAAGUAAGGGGGAGGAUAGUGCAAAAGAGAGGAGAAAAGGAAGGAUGGAAGGAAGAGGUUAAGAGCAUGGAGACUGAGAGGCAAAGGUAAAUAAGAAAUCAAAAAUAUUUAUAUUAAUCAAAAUGAUUUAAGGUGAGACAAAAUCAUAGUUUUAUUUCCAAUAAAAGUUAGGAAAGUAUUGUAAAAAGACAUAAUAUUUUUUAAUUUCCAUGUAAAAUUUCUGGAAAUUUAAAAAAUAAUAAAUGCUUGUUUUUUUAGAACAUAAUAUUUAUUUAAAAAUAUAAUUGGAUUCAUUCAUAUGUAAACGUAAUGAUAAAGAUUAAAACAAUAAUGUACUUUCAUAAAAGUAUGAUUUUAGAAAUUAAAAGUGGAAAUUAAAUAAGAUAAAUUCCUUUUCUUAACUAAUAUAAAAAUUGUAGGGAUUAACAUAGUUAAUAAUAUUAACAUAUUUCUAAUAUUAAAUAAUAUUUUAAUUUAUCAGGACUAAAUGAGAAAAUUAAAAAGGUGAAAUCCCUUUUAAAAUAAAUUUAAAACAUUAAGGGUAUUAUGUUGCAAAUAACCCCUCCACGUUCCCAUAUAUAAAAUACAUUUUCCUUUUUCUUUUAAUUUGUGAUGAAUAAGUUGGAAAAUAAAAUAAAAAUAAAAAAAACUUAGUUUGCUUCUUUUUUUUCGAAGCUGAAGGUUUAAAGUUUUUUGGUCUUAAAUACAAAAAAUAUCAUAGGUUCUCAAUAAUUAUGUAGUUUGUAACGCCAGAAAGUUUACAUUUUUAAAAUAUCAUAGGGACACUAGCGUGUGUCCAGACCGUGUGUGACUAUGUUAGUGUAGGGUUCACACAGGCCAAGGAUAGGAACGUGUGUCCAGGUCAUGUAACUCACUAUUUACAAAAUAAGGAUCACACGGACGGAUGACACAGCCGUGUGUUAGGCCAUGUAAGACACACGGGCAAGCAAACAGGCGUGUGUCAGGUCGUGUGAGGCUACAUGGGUGUGUGGGCCAGUUUACGAAAUUUUUCAUUUCCCGAACUUCAUUUGAAAUGAAUACAAGCCUUCUGUGAGGCCGUAUGAACUGAAUUAAAUUGUAUAAAUUGAUAUUCUAUGAUCUGAAAUUGAGUACUAAUAAUUUGCGUGUGUAUUGUGUAUGACCUAUAUUAAUAGUAUCGAUCUACUGUAUUCAAGCAUGACUUGUAUCUGAAUAUUCGCAUUUGUAUUAACUGUCAUGUGAAGUCUGCAUAUGCAUUGGGUGGAAAUUGAGCAAGAAGGAAGUAUUCUGUUCUGGCAUAAUGAUUAAUUCACUGUCAUAUGUACUCUGAUAUGGCAGCUAGACUGCAAUUUUUGAAACGUGUCAGACUGACCAUAUAUGGUGUGUAGGGUUAGAUGGGUUAUAAGUACCCUAUUUCAUGUGUUAGGUUUGUCGGAGAUGGUGUGUAACGGCCGGGAUUAAGAAAAUUGCAUAUGUUCUGUUAUGUUCUGUAUCCGAUUAUAGUUUGAUUUGAUAUCUGUUUGUAUAGUUCUGAUCCGUAAAUGAAUGAGCUAUUUCCUAAGUCUAAAUCGGCAUUUGAACUUGGACAUCUACUGGUUUAAUCCACACUCUAUUGAAUAUGUAUAUUGUUGGUUUCUUUAUGAGAUAUUAAAUCAUUUUGUUGUUGAAUGAAUUACAGGUAAAUCACAGGCUUAGACGAGUCAGUGGAUGGGAAGCUCAGUUUCACUAUUUUAAACUGUUUAGUAGUACUAGUAUUGUUAGUUGUUAUUCGUAUUUUCAAUUUAGUUGGACGAUAAACCAACUUUCUUGCCUUGUUAGUUAUUUAAAUCUUAAAUGACUCUGAAGGAUUUUAAAGCUAAGUUAUGAAGUUGCUUUAUUAUUAUAGUUCGUUGUAACCCUCCAGGCUUGGCCUUGUCGUCUAGACCGGGUAUGAAUUGUUACACUCCUUUAUAAUAUUUAGCAAUGCCAACAAUGUUAAAAUUUGGCCCACACGAGGUUAAAACGCUUGCAAUUAAUUUUGUUUUCAAAUUUCAUUGCAUACUUGCUUGACCUGAUAGGAUCGAAAAAGUUUUUCAUCUAUCAAAACUAGUGUUUUAAAAAUUAUAUCGGAUCAGCCAAUUGGAUAUUAAAUCGGUCUAGAGAUAGGAGUUGAAUUGGUUGACUUGCGAGCCAAUACAAAUAAGUUGACCCAAGCUAAGGAAACCAAUUGAACCAGUUCUCUCUAUUUUUUAAUUUUUUAUGAAAUUUUAAUAUUUUAAAUUUAGAUAAAGAAAAUAUUAUCUUUUUAUCUUUUUUUUACAUGAAAAGUUUUAAUUGAUUAUUUUUAAAAAGAAAUAGGCUUAACAGUUUGCGUAACAACAAAAGUACCAACUUGGGAAAAAUAUAGUUUAGGUAGUACUUUUAACCAAAAAAAUAUUCAGGUACCAAAAUGAGAAAAAUGAUAGAGUUUAGGUACCAAUUUAUGAGUUAAACCUUUUUUUUAAAUGAAUUUAACGGUUUGACUUACUAUUUGACUAACGAAAGUAUCAACUUAAGAAAACAAAAGUAGUUUAUAAACCACUUGUGAGAAAAAAAAACUUUAAAUAUCAAGAUAAAAAAAAAUAUAUAUAUAAUUUAAAUAUCAAUUGAUAAAUUAAUUAUAUUCAAAAUAAUGGUAUUUUAGAUAGCAAAGGUAUUGAAAAUUUAAAGUGAUAAAUUACCUUUAUCAUUAUAAAUAAAUACCACAAUUUUUUUAAAUAAAAUAAAAAAUUUAGUUUAAAUAUCAUUAUUUCUUCUUUCAACAAUCAUUCUAUUCUAAAAAUAAAAAUAAAAUAAAUAAACAAAGAAAACUUUAUUAUAUAAUUUAAUCAGUUAAAUUUAAUCAGUUAAAAUAAAUAAAAAGUAAGACUUGAUGAAACACUAUAUAUAAUUUAAUCAGUUAAGUUUUAUUAUUAAUUUUUGUAUUACGUUGUGUAUUUAAUUUUUAUAUUUUAAUUUGAUUAUUUUUAAUUUUUAAUUUUUUAAAUUUUAAAAUUUCAUGUGGUAAUAAUUAAAUUUAUUAAGUUAAAUUAUACUAUUUCUAAAAGGGUUAAUGCACUAUUUACCCUUAAAAAUUGUACUCAACUAUCACCUUGAUACUUAAAGAAUUUUUUAUACCAAUUUUGUACACGGAGUUUCUAACUAUGAAUCACUUUACCUUACUUGUUAACUGCAUUAAAAAAAAGAUGAUGUGGCGUGCUCUCAGCAUAUUACGUGAUUCAAUUCUUAUUUUCUCAAAAUAAAUUCUAAAAAAAAUGAGAACAAUAAAUAAUAAUAAUAAUAAUUGAGAAUUUUUCUCAAUUUUUUUAAAAAUAAAAAAAUAUGCAAAUUUAUAGCAAAUUCCUAAAAUUGAAAAACUAUUUACAUUUUUUUAAGUACAAAAAAUUAAAAAAAAAACAAAUAAAAUCUAUAAAAUUUUAACAAAUAAAAAAUUGGAAAGUUGUAUAAAAUUUUCAAAAUAAAAAAAUAUUUCUCUUUUUUAAAAAUAGAUAAAAAUACAAAAAAGAAAAAGAAAAAAAUACAAGAAUUUCAAAUUUUUCAGAAAAAGCUUAAAACAAUUGAAAAUAAAAAAAAAUAUAUUUUUAAAAUAUAUGAAAUAUAAAAAAACUUUUAUUUGGAGAUAAAUACUGAAGGUUUAGGGGUUGAGCCUCUAGAACAUAUGAACUGAUAUCUGAGCGAUCAAGGCGAGGAAAGCGAAGUUUCAUAAUAGCCACCAGAGAGUCCCCUUCAAUCUCCACCGAACCAAACCCCAUCUCCCUUGCGAAUCAAAUCUCUUCCACACUCACCCAUGCCUCCGCUGCCAAAGGGGUUGAAACAUACUCCAUCCAGAAGAAGGUUGCCCACAUUAGAAGGCUUAAAUGAUUCAAAGUCAUGACCCCCGCACGUGCAGCCCCUCAAGUCCCUAUGAAACCCGGUAUCAAAAUUGAGUCGCAUACAAGGCUCGACUGACAGUCACCAUGUUCGGAAGGUUGAGUCCUUCCGUCGACCAUGCACAUCGAGUAACCAUCCCAGCCUUUAGACAUGACCCAAAAUAAAGGUAAGAAGCUCUAAAUUUUAUUGUCGCUUGCCCUCAUGCGCCAAAAGAUUUCUCAAAUACCAUACUACCUAAAUGGUGACAAUUAUUGUUAGACGUUGUGCAGGAGAACUACCACAAAGCAAAUCCCAACAAAGCAAGGAGUCGUUAACCUCAUCCACAUGCCAAGUGAAACCAAGGCUCAACCAAACCGAGAGCAGAAAUGGACAAUCACGACAAGCAUGAAGAGAUGUUUCACCACCCACACCACAUCGAGGGCACAUCGAGUCACCUCGAAGGUGUCGCAUGAAAAGAUAAGCAUUGGUAGACACAUAGUUGUUUAGGAAUUUUGACACUAUAAUUUGGAUAUUUUCCUAUGCAGGAAUCUGCCAAGGAGUUCUAUAAAUGUCCUUGAUGUCUUGACCCACAUUAAUGUACUUGUCCUUCAUCGAACUAGGAAAACUGUUGCGGAAAGGAUCGAUUCGAGAACUCCGAUAUGACUACAAGUAAAUUGACCGGAACGAAAAAUAAAGUGAACACAAGGAUUUACGUGGUUCGGCUUUAAUGCCUACGUCCACGGGCAGAGGCGAAAAGAAAUUUCACUAUAACAAGAUGAAGAUUACAAGUGUUUUACACUCAAGACACAACCCGAGAACCUCACAACUCUCAACCCCUAUAGAAAACCCGAAAGCUAAAAUCCUAGCUUUCAAAGAACAAGCUUUGCUCUCUCUUGGUUUGGGAUGAUGAAUAUGGCUAAUGAACCUCUCUAUUUAUAAGAGAGUUCAAGGACAUAAUUGUCCAAAACUUUGGCAAAGAUUUGUGGUUGAAAAUGGACACCAACAACCAUCCACUAAUCCACUACCACCAACAACCCACUACCAACAACAACAAUCCACUACCAAUUUUAAGCCAUUUCUUAACAAAUCUCCACCUUGGCUUGAAAUUUACCAAGCUGAACAUCAUAGUGAAUUCCUCGAACUGGAUCACCUCUUCCAAACGCCUCUCUGGCGCUAAUCAAUCCCGAAUACCUAUCAAGUCCAAGCAAUGCUUGAACUUAUAUGCAGGGAUCACCUUAGUUAACAUAUCUGCAGGAUUCUUCUCGGUAGCAACCUUGCUGAUAACAAUGUCACCUUGCGUAACAUGUUCCCGAACAAAAUGAUAUCUGACAUCAAUGUGUUUGGUCCGUUCAUGAAACAUCUGAUUUUUAGUCAGAUGUAUGGCACUCUGGCUAUCGCAAAAUACAACAGUGAAAUCCUGUUGUAAACCCAAACUGCUUACUAGACCUUUCAUCCACAAUGCUUCUUUCACUGCUUCUGCUAACGCCAUAUAUUCCGCCUCAGUCGUAGAUAAGGCUACGGUAGACUGUAACACAGCUUUCCAACUAAUGGCUCCUCCAGAAUAAGUGAAAACAUAACCCGUCAGAGAUCUUCUUUUGUCCAGAUCUCCAGCAUAAUCAGAGUCCACAUAGCCCGUGACACUGCUAGUGCAGUCACUCUGAUCAUAUACCAAGCAUAAAUCUGCAGAACCUCUCAAGUACCUGAGAAUCCAUUUCACGGCCUGCCAGUGUUCCUUGCCAGGACAACUCAUGUAUCUGCUGACCACACUAACUGCAUGUGAAAUGUCUGGACGAGUGCAAACCAUUGCAUACAUCACGCUUCCAACUGCACUCGAGUAUGGAAUGUGAGACAUUUGCUGCUUUUCUUCAUCAGAUUGUGGUGACAACUCUGCAGAGAGUUUGAAAUGUGGUGCCAACGGAGUACUCACAGUUUUCGCUUUAUCCAUGCCGAAGCGUUGAAGAACCUUUUCAAUGUAGUUCUUCUGCGACACACGAAGCUUGCCCGCCUUGCGAUCUCUGUGAAUAUCCAUGCCCAAAAUUUUCUUGGCAGCACCCAGAUCCUUCAUCUCGAACUCACCACUCAACUGCGACUUUAACUUGUUGAUUUCCGACAUGUUUUUGGAAGCAAUUAACAUGUCAUCAACAUACAGCAACAAAUAAAUGUGCGAACCAUCUGAGAGCUUCCGAUGAUAGACACAAGCAUCAUAGUCACAUCUUGUGUAACCAUGCUGAAUCAUGAAGCUAUCAAACCGCUUGUACCACUGCCUUGGGGAUUGUUUCAAUCCAUAUAAAGACUUCUUUAAUAGACAGACAUGGUCUUCUUUACCAGGAACUGUAAAACCCUCUGGUUGACGCAUGUAGAUUGUUUCCUCGAGCUCACCAUGCAAGAACGCCGUUUUUACGUCAAGCUGCUCAAGUUCUAGAUCAGACUUGGCCACCAUGGCAAGUAAUACACGAAUGGAAGAAUGCUUUACGACUGGGGAGAAAACUUCAUUGUAGUCAAUCCCCUCUUUCUGAGUGAAGCCUUUAGCAACCAAUCGUGCCUUGAAUCUAGUUGCUUCAACCCCUAGGAUGCCUUCCUUUUUCUUGAAGACCCAUUUGCAACCAACUAUCUUCUGGUUACUUGGCGGCUUAACCAACUCCCAAGUAUGGUUCUUGUGAAGAGAUUCUAUCUCCUCACUCAUAGCAAUUGCCCACUGUGCCGACUCAUCACACGUGACAGCCUCAUUAUAACUGGAAGGUUCUAUACCAAUGGACUCCGCCACACUGAGCGCGAAAGACACCAGAUUAGCGUAACGCGGAUUUGGUUUGAUUUGUCUCUUCGUUCUUCCAGUGGCAAUGCUAUAUGGUUUUUCUUGAGGUGACUCAUCUUCAUCGGAAUCUUGCACCUCAACUUGAUCAUCCUGGACUGAAGUACCUUCCGUAGGAAUUGGAGCGUCCACCUGACACUCCACCUGCUUCUCAACACCGUGAUCUCCCAUUCUAUCUGACUCCUCCUUUUCCCGGGAAUUUGUGGUGGAUCGAAGCAUGGAUGACUCAUCAAAAGUCACAUCUCUGCUGAUGAUGAACUUGGACGAAACCGGAUCAGGACACCACAACCUGUAUCCUUUCACCCCUUGGCCGUAUCCAAGAAAUAUGCAUUUCUUCGCCCUCGGUUUGAGUUUUCCCUCAUUUACAUGAGCAUACGCAGGGCAGCCAAACACUCUUAAACCAGAGUAAUCAGCAGGAGAACCAGACCAUACUUCCUCAGGAGUCUUCAGCUCAAUAGCUGUUGACGGAGAUCUGUUAACCAAAUAACAAGCAGUAUUAACAGCUUCAGCCCAAAAUUCUUCACCGAGCCCAGCAUUUGAUCGCAUGCAACGAGCUCGCUCCAAGAGAGUUCUAUUCAUGCGUUCUGCAACUCCAUUUUGUUGUGGUGUUCGACGAACAGUGCGGUGUCUCACUAUUCCUUCAUUUUUGCAGAACUCAUUGAAUUCACCUGAGCAAAACUCCAAGCCAUUAUCCGUCCGGAAUCGCUUGAUCUUCUUUCCUGUUUGAUUUUCGAUCAAAGCUUUAAAUUGCUUGAAGUUGAUGAGAACCUCAUACUUGCUCUUCAGAAAAUACACCCAAACCUUUCUCGAGUAAUCAUCGAUAAAGGUAAGCAGAUAUCUGUAACCACCUUUAGAAAUUGUCGGAGAAGGCCCCCAAAGGUCAGAAUGGAAGUAAUCCACUGUGCCUUUUGUCUUGUGAAUCCCAGUGCUGAACUUUACCCGAGUCUGCUUACCGAAGACGCAGUGCUCACAGAAAUUCAACUUUCCUGUACACUGCCCAGACAAUAAUCCUCGUUUGCUUAGCACCGAUAAGCCUCUCUCGCUCAUAUGCCCGAGCCGCAUAUGCCAUAACUUCGUGGUGUCAGAAUCUAGAUCAUCUGAUGAUGACACUCCCGCAACACCUGUAACCGAGGAACCAUCGAGGAAGUAAAGGCCCCGCUCCAAAUUACCACGUAUCACAGUCAAAGCACCCGAGAAUACCUUGAGAACUCCACCUUCAGCAGAGUACCGAAAGCCUUUCUUGUCCAACGUACUCAAAGAGAUCAAAUUUUUCUUCAUUUCUGGAAUGUGCCGAACAUCAGUUAGAGUUCUAACAAUACCGUCAAACAUCUUUAUACGAACUGUGCCAAUCCCCAUGACUUGACAUGCGUGGUCAUUUCCCAUUAGUACUGAACCAGAAUGCUUCUCGUAUGUUGAGAAUGCAUCUUUCGAAGUACUUAUAUGAAAUGUAGCUCCCGUAUCAAGAAUCCAUCUCCCACCAGCGUAAGAGUCGGAUACUGCAAGAACGAUCUCGGCAUCACUUGAAGAAUCUGCAUCAGCUACAUUCGCACGAUCAUUUUGUUGCUCCUGUGAUUCUGAUUUCUCCUUCCUUUUCGGACAAUCUACCUUCAUGUGCCCGUACUUCUUACAGUAGUAGCACUGUAUUCUCUUCUUGGACUGCGAUCUAGGAUGGCUUUUACUUGAACUUCCACCCUUUGCCUUGGAUCUUCCUCGAGCAACCAAGCCUUCGCCUUCAUUGUUUUCGACCACCUUACCAGUGAUUUUCUUCCUCAACUCACUGGAACUUAAGGCAUUUUUCACCUCCUCUAGAGUCAGGUCAUCACGACCGUACAUCAUUGUAUCAACAAAAUUCUCAUACGAGGGAGGCAAAGAACACAAAACAAUUAUUGCUUGGUCCUCAUCAUCGAUUUUGUUAUCGAUAUUAUUCAAAUCCAUGAUAAUGGAAUUGAAUUUAUCCAGGUGCUGGGAAACAGGUGUACCUUCCUCCAUCUUCAGGGCAUAGAGUCUUUGCUUGAGGUAGAGCCGGUUCGUCAAUGACUUCGUCAUGUACUUGCUCUCUAACCGGAGCCACAAACCGGACGCGGUUUUCUCAUCCGCUACUUCUCGUAGCACUUCAUCUCCUAGACAUAGCAGAAUAGCACUAUGUGCUCUUUCUAGCAUGUCAUCCUUUUGCUCUUCCGAAAGCGUGCUUGGUAAUUUAUCUUUACCAGACAAUGCUUUUAGCAAUCCUUGUUGAACCAGCACUGCCCGCAUCUUGAUGCGCCAUAAACUGAAACUAUUUUUCCCGGUAAAUUUCUCGACAUCAUACUUAGUCGAUGAAACACUUGUAGCCAUAAUUUGGAACCUUUGAAUGAAUGAUAAUAUUUUCUUCCUGAUGUGAAAGAUCAGACAAAGCUGCAGUCACAGGGCAAUUCAGAAAAUAUUAUCACUCCUUCAACUACGCUCUGGUACCAAUUUGUUGCGGAAAGGAUCGAUUCGAGAACUCCGAUAUGACUACAAGUAAAUUGACCGGAACGAAAAAUAAAGUGAACACAAGGAUUUACGUGGUUCGGCUUUAAUGCCUACGUCCACGGGCAGAGGCGAAAAGAAAUUUCACUAUAACAAGAUGAAGAUUACAAGUGUUUUACACUCAAGACACAACCCGAGAACCUCACAACUCUCAACCCCUAUAGAAAACCCGAAAGCUAAAAUCCUAGCUUUCAAAGAACAAGCUUUGCUCUCUCUUGGUUUGGGAUGAUGAAUAUGGCUAAUGAACCUCUCUAUUUAUAAGAGAGUUCAAGGACAUAAUUGUCCAAAACUUUGGCAAAGAUUUGUGGUUGAAAAUGGACACCAACAACCAUCCACUAAUCCACUACCACCAACAACCCACUACCAACAACAACAAUCCACUACCAAUUUUAAGCCAUUUCUUAACAAAAACCAUGCAAAAGGAGUCAAUAGCCACUCCGAAUCGUGUACUCUCGAGAACCUUUUAAGCACCAAUGCAACUGUCAGAGGCUUCCUACUGCGGCAAAGGAAUGAAGAGGAUCGUACGAGCCUCUAAGGCAUCAAACGUUGAUAGAACAACAUCCUCAUUCCACAUAUUCAUAUUUGUGUCAAUCAAAUCAGUAACCUAAUUAAUACCGUUGACUCAUUGUAACUCCACCAGAAAUGGUCGAUCACUAGAGCGUCAUGACAUGUCACAAACAAAAAUCUCAUUCUCAUUCCCCAUUAGCCAACUACAACCUUUGACGAGUAGGCCUUUCGCCGCCUAGAUGCUCCUCCUAAUAAAAGAAGGUUUGCUCCCUAAUGUCGACUGUAGGAAAUCAUCACACAAAAAAUAUUUCACCUUAAGAACCCUUGCCAUUCACAAAAAUUAUCCCUAUUUAAAUUUUUCUUAGUAAAAAUGUUAAUAAGAGGAUUAUAAGACAUAUUUGAACUGAAAAAAAAUGAAGAUUCAUUAAUUACUAUAUUUGUAUUAAGCAAAUAUUUUCAUUUCAGCAACAUAUCAAGAAUGUAGUAUGAUGCAUGCGUCUUGUAUUAAAACCUUGAAAAUAAUUUUUUUUUGUUGCUAUGAUCAUUUUCACACCCAUCAAUCAUGUCACUUUGGGGUCCAUGAUUAACUAGUAAGAACAUGGAAUACAUCCAAUCAGUUCAUGAAUCUUAAUUCUCAAGACUCCACAGGAACCAACGAUCGUUUAACAUUUAGCCAUCAUCUCUAGAUUAAAUAUCGUUUUUUGGGAAACUAUUUCAUAAGAGAAGAUUUUAAGUAUGUAACCGUUGACUCAACACCCAUCAUGAACAUGUUUUCAUUUAUGAGUCAUCUUGGGAUAAUUUCACUAAGAUUCAUGCACAACUACUUAUCUUGAAAAGUAAAUCUCAUCUAGUGAACCCACAUGAUAAAAUUUAUCUUGGGACAAUUUUUUUUCUUUUAUCAUGCUAUCAUUUAAUACCAUCAAUGGAGGUCGCAGGUCUUGUUAAAGGACCUUCUCCCACUCAAUAUUUUAAAAUAAUAUGAAAGGUUUUUAUCUCAUGUUUAAAACAUGAUCAUACAAUAGUCCUAGUGACAUUCUUAUCUAAUUUAUAUGACAUGCUUCUCAUAUAUGCAUGACAUGCUAUGACAAUUUUACAAUAUUCACAUUCAUUUAUUCAUAAGAAUCAAUCAAUCAUAAAACAAAUAAUUUUGAUUCUCCAUAGUUUUUCCUUUGAGGGAAAACUGAAUAAGUGAAUGUGAACCGUGCACCAGGUAGGGUCUUAGGAAAGGGAGGUGAAUCAAAGUUGACCACUUAAAAACCAAGCCUUCUAAUACCACACUUCUCACGGUAAUCGAAUAACCUAAAGGAGUGAAUAGAACAAUACAACGCAUGCAUUUUCUCAUUACCACACUUCUUAUUUUUUUUAAUCGAUCAACUGCGGAUCAUCUCAUAUAUAUAUAUCACAAUUGUAACAUUACAUUAUAUAAAUAUUAAAAACAAUUAUAAAACAAAAAUAUAAGGAGGUGAGUAAUUAAAAUAAAAUUGUCAACCAAGGUUUCCAUGGUUUUAUUCUAGAAAAUAAAAGAAAAAAAAUAAAAUUACAUAGUUAUUGGCCACAAGGCAUUCUUUGGGUCUUCAACUGCCAUCGCUCUAUCUUUUCCUCAUCAUGGACUCCUUUUGGUAGAACUACAUUUAACCCUUAUGUCCGUUUUCGGAUCAAGAAUUCUAUAGAUUAAAAAAACAAUCCUACAUGAAGAUGAUAGUCUACGGUCUAUUUCCUAAGAACCAUAACAUUGACAAAGCAAACAAUUAGAUAAUAAAUAUAUAAUAUCGCAUUCAUUCUCAUAUAUAACACAAAAAUAUGUAUAAGAUCUAAAGAAUGUCACUUUCUAUGUAAUCAAAUCAUUCAAGAAGAAGAGAAUUUUAUUUUGGUUAUCUAUUUAUACUUAUAGAUAGAGCAAAACCUAAUUUUAAUACCAAUUGUUCAAAAAUGGGUUUGGAUAAUGCAGCGAAAAAUCAAUAUAGGGAAAAACCUAAGUUUUAAAAAGUUAUAAAAUAAGAAUUUGGUUGUGAUAUCAAAAGUAAUAAACUUAAUAAAAAUUAUACCAUUUGCAUAUGCUCCACCUUCUCUUACCAUCAGGUCAAGCACAGAAUGGUGGGAAUCGUUGGAGUGGAAUGACCAUCCAUACUUUAAAAAUGUUCUUCGCUUCAACCCCCGUGGAGGAUAAGAGGUAUGAACCAUUUAUGGUUUUGUUUUUUUUUUUAUAAAUCUAAUUUCUCCAUAUUAAUAAAAUUUGAUGUAUAUUUGUGAUGAUGUUGAAGAGAAAGAUAGAAGGGUUGGUGGGAAAGAAGAAGGGGGAAGGAUAGUGCAAAAGAGAGGAGAAAAGGAAUGAUGGAAGGAAGAGGUUAAGAGCAUGGAGACUGAGAGGCAAAGGUAAAUAAGAAAUCAAACUUUUUAAACAUUUUCCAUCUCUUACCAUUCCUUCUAUUCUCUUCUAAUAUAUAUAUGUACAUCCCAAAAUAACCUUCUGAAUAUUUAUUAUUAAAAUAUUUAUAUUAAUCGAAAUGAUUUAAGGUGAGACAAAACUACCAUAGUUUUAUUUCCAAUAAAAGUUAGGAAAUUAUUGUAAAAAGACAUAAUAUUUUUUAAUUUCUAUGUAAAAUUUCUGGAAACAUUAAGAUUUAAAAAAUAAUAAUAUAGUUAGGAAUUAAUACCAGAAGAGCUAUCCAGAAGCAAUAUAAUGUUGAAAUCGCACACUGUUGAACAUUUUACCUCUUAAUAUUCUGUUGCACACUUGAAUCCAGCAUUUUCUAUACAUUGAGAGGUUAAUUCUGGAUAUACAAAUUUCAUUGUGUUUCUGUCUGCCACCCAUCCAUAGCUCCAUCUAAUAAACGCCAUUGCUUGAAACUUGCAUUCAUGCUUACACUGACAUAUCAAAAAGCCAAUACAUUCACACAUUUUCCUUAUCUGUACUGUUAUAUAUGAUUGCGUUGCAGGGACAUAGCAAUGGAGUACGUACAGCCUGUUCUUGGCAUUGCAAAUUGUCUCGGAACUCCGGCUUGUAAAUACUUGCAAUAUCUCAGAAAGCUCAAUGAUUAUGUGAGAAACUUCAAGAGGAUGAGAGAUGAGUUGAAUUGCAAAAUGGAAGAUAUAGAGCUGCAAUUGAAAGCAGAGCUUCUUCGUCCUCUGGGGAAGAUACCGAAGAAGGGAGUUGAAAAUUGGUUGAAAGCUGUGAAAGAGAUGAUUAAGGAAGCACAAGUUGUUGAAAACAAAGUAACGGGAGAUAUCUCCGUCGUGCUUGCAACGAGAAGCUGGUUGAUGAAAAGACUCGAGAAAUGAAGGAAUUUCUUGAUAACGCUCCUAAUGCCUCUGAAGGUCUUGCCAUGGAUGGUCCAAGUGCUGGGUUGCCACUGCCAACAUCAGAACUAGAUGGAGAAGAAGCUGUCAGAAAUGAGAUUUGGGCAUGUUUGAUGCAGGAGGAGGUGAGCAAGAUUGGGGUUUGGGGGGUGGGCAUAAAAAAUUAUUAAAAUAGAUCAUUGCUAAUUCUCUCUUUUCUUAAUCGGUAAGUUUCUCUCUUCAAAUCCUUUUAUUUCUUUAUUGAAUCCAUCGCAUAUCAUUUGCAAACCCAUUUCUGUACAGUUUGUUUGUUCAAUUUUUCUUUUUCCAAUUUUUCUCUUGAUUUAGAUGGAAGAUUCUUUUGUAGCAUUUGAAGAGUUUCUAAAAAUUUUAGGGUUUUCCUAAAUCUAACUUUCUUGACACCAUGUGCGUGUAUAAAUUUCUUUCGUGGAGAUUAUUUAUCAUGUUUGUGUGUUUCGUCUCUUGAGGUUGAGCUGUUUUUAUUUUCAAAAAUAAAUAUUUAUUUUCUUUUGCAUUUAUUUCUAAUAUCACUAUAAAUUGUUUAGGGUUGUCGAUUUUGGGGAUUUUAGGUUUUGGAUGAUCUAAUUUGGGGAUUUUGAGUAAGGGUUUUGAUUUUAGGAAUUUUUAUUUAGGGUUUUUAAAUUAGGAGAUUUUGGGGAUUUCUCACACCGCCCUCUCAUCAACUUCAAAGCCAACAAAUCUACAUCUAGGCUCAUGCAAAAAGUCACCAGAACCCAUGUUUGAAACCUCAGGUCACUUCCGCCAUGCAGAUUGCAUCGAACUGAUCGACGACUCUAUCAAAGAGCUCCAAAAAUCUUUAUGUAAAUUUUUUUUCAUAUCAGAUGCUCCAACUUUGUGCUCAUGAGUGAUCUUCAAACCUAGGUUAAUGCUGCCCUGACGGAUGAAGAUACUUGCAUGGAUGGAUUCUCAAGCAAGGCCAUGAAUGGGUAUGCAAAGAUGAUGUGAGGAAACGAAUUAUUAAGAUCACACGUUUGACGAGCAAUGUUUUGGCUCUCAUUAAUAAUUAUGCUUCAUCUCAGAUCCUUCAUUGAUUUUCUUGAGAAAACUUUGAUGGCAAGGAAAGUAUUGUGUUUCAUGGAUUUAUGUUCAAUAUGGGAUUUUAUGGUUUUCGAACAGGGCACAAGUUUUUCAGGUACUGUAGAUUGUGUUCUCAACUCUAUGUUUGUGGUUCUUGAUUUUUGCAAUUGUAUCAAUUUGAAUAUGAAAUUUGUGUUCGUGUAUGUUUAAGGUUUUUAUUAUUUUUUAAUAAUUUUAAAAUCAUUUGUUGACGUGGUAUAUAAAAUAAAAUAAUGUUAUGUUAGUAUUUAAAUUCAUUUGGACUGUCAUGUCAGAGGUUAAUGUUGACCAUUAGACAACUAACGGCCACAUCAGCCUCUAUGUUAAAAAUAAACCAAUUUGUUAGAAAUUUAAAUUUUGCACUAUAAAAUUAAUUUUUAAAAUUAACUAUUCAAUUUGUAAUUGAUUUUAUUAAAUUAAAAUAUUCACUAAUGUUUGAAAAUGUUCUCCAUGUUAAUUAUACACUUGAUUGUUUUUUUUAAUUAUUUAAGAAUUCAGUUAAAUGGUAAUCAAUUUAUAUUAAAAUAUCAGUUUUAUUGGUUGUAUUAUUUCAUUAGUGUUCUUAUAAUAUUAUUUCAUUUUUAUUUAUAGACACCAACUUCAAAAGCAGAAGAGGAUUAAUUCACGAGAAGAUAUGGCUCAUACUGUAAACGAUAAAUAAGAUAUUAUAAAUUGAUAUCAUUAAAAUUUAAAUAAUAUACAAAGAGUAGAAAAAUAAAUUGAAAACAUAUUAUAUGAUCUAAAUGAACUAUAAUAAAAGGAUUAUAUAUUUCCUAUCAAUCCUACUAUAUUGUCUUUUAUAAAUAAUUUCCUAUCAAGCAAGUUGACAGCUAAAGGGUGCAAAUUUGACUUUGCUAAAUUCUCUAGCAUCAAAGAGGCAAGAUAUGUUGCAAACAAGACAUAAACCAAUAUCAACAUGGUGAUUCCAAAAUUCAAAACACACUAAACCCCUACUUUUGUAUGAUAGAGAAAAUAUGAUGUACAAAUUUAUAGUCAUGGAAUGUAUUAGGUGCAUUGAAGAUAAUUCAGUGUUAGAAUCAAAGAAAUUUAUCGUUAUUUUUGUGAAUUGUAAAAUUGUGCAUCAACUGGGAAAAAUGUUCGUCUUCCAUUACAAGAAUUUCCUUAAAGUUAAUAGUUUGAGAGAUAAUUUUAAGGAGGAAUUGGAAGGCAUUGCUAUAAGGAGAAUCUGAAGAAAGUAAUUUCGUUUUGAGUUUCAAGUGAAAGGAAUGAAAGAAAGGUUGCUUAAAUAAAUACAGGAUUGGAUAUUGAGUUGUUUUGAAUAGUUGAGCGAAGGACACAUGGACCAUAUGAAAUUCAAGUCUACCAAAGUAAUGCUAAUCAGAUUCCUCUUUGGAAAUGACAACUUUUCAAAACAUUGUCAAUCUACCUUGAAAUGUGGCAUCUGUGAAAGAAUCAAUCAUGAAAUAUUAAAAUUAUACUAAAACGACUAUAACGAUUUAUUUCCCCUAUAAAUAAACGUUUUCUUUUCUUCCUUAAAAAUUAACAUGAUUUUAUCUUAAUAUAUAUAUCUAUACACGUCUCAAAAUAGCCUUCUAAAAUAUUUAUUUUAAAAAAUAAUUUAUAUAAUACAUAUAACAAUUAAUUAUAAACUUAUUUUGAUAUGAUGUCAAAAUUAAAUAUUAUAAUGGUCCUUUACCACAUUCAACACUAACUUUGAUUUUAUAAUUUUAAAAAAAGAAUUAAACUAAUAACAUAAAAAAUUUAAACUAAAGUUUUUAAAAGAAUUUAGGUUAAACUACACCAUUAGUCACUCAAAAAAGGGUCAAUUUUCAUUUUGGUCACUUAACUAAAAUAAGAUACAAUUUGGUCACUAAUGUUUCUAGAAAAUAAAUUUGGUCACCCGACUGUUAAGUUGCAUUUACUUUGGCUGGUAUGAUAACAAUUUUUGUCACAUCCCAAAAACCAAGUUAGUAGAAAUUGGGUUAGUGAAACCAAGAGUGGUCACGUUCUGUUUUUGAGUUAAGAUUGUGAAAAUUAUGUUAAGUAAAUUUAUUUGGUUUAGUGGUUAAGUCCUUUGGAUGUGUCUAAGGUCUUGCGUUCAAAUUUUUUCCCUUAAACUUUCAUUAUUUUUGUCCUAACUUCCAUUUCUGAACAUCUAGCUUAUAUAUUAUGUUUUCUCAAUUGAUGAUAAGAAUGAGUUUACUAGUUUAGUGGUAAGGCUUCAGUUUACUUAGAGGUCUUGUGUUUGAAUCUUAUGUAUGUAAAGUUGAAUUAUUUUUGUUUUUAAACUCUAAGAAAUUUUUUUAUAAGGAUAACUAAUCAAAUUGAGUGGGGAAAAUUUCCCCAAAAUUCUCCUCAUUCUGUUGCUCACUUCUUCCCACAUUGUUCACUUUUUCUUUUCCCUUUUCUUUUUACAUUUGAUUUCUUCUUCUUUUUUUUUUGCUUUGGUAGUUUUGCUGCCUUCCUUUCUCAUCUUUUCUCUACUAUUUUCUUUUGUGUUAUUCUAUUGGUACGCUGUUGAAUCUCUGUUAUUCCUUCGGGUAAGUGUUGGUUAUUUGUUUUAUAUAAAUGUGGUGUUGGGUUAAUCUUUCAAGUGAUUGAUGGUUUCAAUUUUGAUAUUUGCAAUGUGUUGUUAGGAGAAGAUCGACAGACUCUUGAAUUGUCUCUAGCGAUUUAAGUGCAGGAAAGGGCUGUUGUUUUUGCAAGGGUAAGUGAUUAAAGUUUUCAAUUGGAGGUUGAUUCGGUUGCUUAGGCUAAGUGUUUAGCAUUUUGGAUUGAAUUAGUGACUUGGAUUUAGCAUAUUACGAAUAAUUCUUACAUUAUAAAAUGUCAAUUUAGGUAUUGAAAUCCUCGUAGUGGUGUUAGCAUCGAAAAUCAACUUGGUGUGUAACGGAAAUAUCGAAAAAUAACAAACGACACGAUGUUGAAAAACCCACUAUCGACGUCACACAGCCAUGUGCCAGGUUAUGUAGGUCAUACAGGCUGGGUUAUUUGGGUCGUGUGGGCUACACGGGUGUGUGUUAGGCUAUGUGCACGAGUUGGUCAGUUGCGUCGUGUGGGCCCAUUUUUUGUAAAAUUCUAUCAAGGUCGUAUUUGAAGUGCGAUUUUAAAUUAGUCACUUUGUAGGUUCCGAAAUGUGUUAUGUAUGCAUUCUGGAUACGAAAUUUGAUAUUUUGUUUCUAUUAAUGUGAUUUUUGAAGCAUAUUAUUCAAUAUUGACAUUGUACAUGUAACAUUCAAGAGCAUGUUUGUGGUAUGAUUUAUGCUUCUGAUCUGUAAUUUGAGAAUCUAUUUAAGCAUGAUCCAUUUAUGUGCCUCUGAGUAUGUAAAAUGUUUUGACAUGUGCAUUGGGGUGGAAUGAUGAUGUGAUGGAGGAAGUGUUUUGGCAGUUUAACUGUAUGCUGAUAUUUAUAAGGCAUCGUUGCUGGGCAACUCGGGAUAACUUAAUUUGUGGUUUAACCACAUAUCUAAUAUGGUGGCUUAACUAGACUUAUUGAUUUUGGCAGAAUACCGCAUUAUUUUUGGCAGCGUGAUUGCGCUAUUCUAAAAAGUGAUAUAUGCUCACUUAUUGGUGUGACAGAUGGAUGGGGUCCUUGUAACACCCCUUACCCGAGACCAUUGUUGGAAUCGAGCACGAAGCAUUACCUAACUUAACUUACUAAUUCGGAGCAUAAAAAUUUGCUUUUAAAAUUAAUUCGCUCACGUUUAAUCAAUAUGUUCCUAAAAAGGAUCCUCGAGACCCUAAAACAUGCAAUGAAAUCAAUUCGGGUCCAAACCAGGAACAUUAAAAAAUUUUCAAUUACUUAAACAAGUCAAAAUGAUUUAUUUUACUAUCCACAAUAAAAUUUCCACCUACGCAAUAGUCACUAAAUUUUUUAUAACUCAAGUUACGAAAUUUAAAAUUUAGAUCCGUCAAUUUUCCCUGAAACUAGACUCAUAUAUCUUCUUUACUUACUCUCUUACUCGUUUACUUACUUGCCUGCUUAGACAAUUCAUGUUUAUAACUUACUCAUUCCUUGCUGAAAUUUCUUUUCUCAACUGAUAACUGAGAUACUCUUAAUCUUAUUAACUCACCUGAACUUGUCUAUUAGGCUUUUACCUGAACUUUCAUGUAACAUCGUCUAUUUACUAGCCCUUUGAAUCACUUGGAAUACUAAGGAUACUCGGGUCUCUUGUCUGAAUAUUAUAGCCAAAGCUAUGUCCCAAACAUAGUCUUCCAUGAGAUGUUUCUUGUAUUGCCAAUGCCAUAUCCCAGAUAUGGUCUUACAUGAGAGUUCUCAUAGAGGUGCCACUGCCAUGUCCUAGACAUGGUCUUACGGGGGACAUUUCAUCUCAGUGCCAAUGCCAAGUCUCAGACAUGAUCUUACAUGGGACCUCUCAUCUUGGUGCCAACACCAUGUCCCAGACAUGGUCUUACAUGGGAUCUCAUUCCCCAAAUGUCAUGACAUUUGUAUCUAUUACAUUCCCAAUGUUUCAACGGGGCUUUUAUCACUGAUUCUCUGUCAUCUAAUACUUGAGUCAACAUUAGAUAUUUUCAUGAAAUAAAUACAUAAUUGCUGAAAAAUAACAGCAUUAAUAAUAAUUAUUGAAAUAUUGCAUUUAUUUACCGUAAACUUACCUUGGUACAAAAUAUGAUCAAAUCAGCACUUUAGUCCUCAACAUUUUUCUUUCCCCGAUCUAACUCCAAAUUUAGUUCUUCUUGAUCUAUAAUAGAAAAUUUGGCUUAUUUAAUACUCACAUUCAUCAAAACAGUCCUUGACUUGAACUUUGACAAAAUUACGUUUUUCCUUAAACUUUUGCAUAUUUACACUUUUGUCCCAAAGCUCAGAAAUUAAACUUCAUCCCUUAUUCUUAUGUUUUAUGACAUGCUGAACAUUUUUCCCUUCUAUGGAAACAUCAAAUUCUCAAUCUAACACUUACUUAUGAACAUUAGGUAUUUUUACCGAUUAUGUCAAUUUACUCGUUUUUACUUAAAAUCGACUAGCAAAAGUUGUUUAACAUAGUUCCAAGCUUCAUAUUCUACCAUAAAACAUCAAAAUAAACACAUUUCACGUAAGGGUAUUUUUCCAAAGAUGAACCCUAGAUUAAAUUAUUGCUAGAAUAAGCUAAAUCAAGUUACCGGAACUCUAAAAACGUAAAAAACAUUAAAAACGGGGCUAGAACGAACUUACAAUCGAGCUUGGAAGCUUGAAAAAACCCUAUUCAUGGUUUACCCUUGUGAAAUUCGGCCAUGGGGUUGAAGAUGGACAAAAUUUGGCUUUUAAUUUGGCUUUUAAUUCAUUUUAAUAACAAAAUAACCAAAAUGCCCUUAAUGAAAAACUUUGGAAACAUGCCUAACCAUGUCCAUUUUUGUCCACCAACUUAACCAAUGGUCUAAUUACCAUAUAAGGACCUCCAAUUGAAAAUUUCAUAACAAUUGGACACCUCUAACAUGUAGAACUCAACUUUUGCACUUUUUACAAUUUAGUCUUUUUGAAUAAAUUGGGUGCCCAAACGUCAAACUUUCCAAACGAAAUUUUCACAAAAUCAUUUCGUGAAAUCGUAGACCAUAAAAAUAUAAUAAAAAUAAAUUUUCUCACGUUAAAUUUGUGGUCCUGAAAUCACUAUUCCGACUAGGCCCAAAAUCAGGAUGUUACACUCUUAUAGUCCUAUUUGGUGUGUAUUAGUGGGACAGAAAUGGUGUGAACUGGAUGGAGGUAGGAUCUAUUUCUGUGUCUGUAUUUGCAUCUGUAUUUGUAUAUGCAUCUGAUUCUGUAUAUGAGAUUGCAUCUUUAUCUGAAACUGAAAUUAUUUAUGUAAUUGAAUUGUAUCUAUUUCUGUAACUAUUACUGUAUUUGAGUCUAUUCUGCCUGUUUGGGUUGAGUUACACACUAAGCCUAUAAGCUCACCCUAGUUCUUUGUGUAACACCCUUAGCCCGUAUCCAUCGCCGGAUUAGGGUUAUGAGGCAUUACUACACGAAUCACAAUUCAGAACAGAGUUUUGCUACAUUUAUUGUUUCAUAAUUUAAACUCAUCAGAACACUUAUUCCAUUCGAUUUUAAACUUAAAAUUUCUAUACUAAUAUCAUAAUUAUAUUUAAGAUUAUUCGAUUAUAUAUAUACAUGUGUCAUUACGCAACAUAUACCAACAUACAUGAUAACAAAUUUUUCAUAAGCUAAUCCUCAAACAUAACCUUUUUAUAGUCUAAGCAUAUUCACAUAUUAAAAUCGAUUAUCAAUCAUACAAAAAUACAACUUUGAUUAACCAUUAUGGUCGAAUAUACUAAUUGUUAGAAUUGUGUGACCCAAAUUCUAAGAGAUUGCUUGCAAGUCAAGUUAAACAAAAAUAUAUUUUCUUUCUAGAAGAUUUAGUAUUUAUUAGUAUAAUAUAUUUAGCAUUUAUUAGUAUAGUUUAUUUGACUUACUAAUUUAGCCUAUAAAUAGGCUCUUUACAAUCUUAGAAUUAAGACACACCCAUUAGAUUAGAACUCAUAAUACAUUCAAAGAAUUUUGUGUUUACGUUUUCGGGUUCUUUGUUUUCGGGUUUUCGGGUUUAGUUUUUAUCUCCAUCUUUUGUACUCUUCAUUCUUUUGCCAUUAUAGUAAAAUUUCUUUGCCCGUGGUUUUUUAUCCUCUUUAAAGGGAUUUUUCCACGUUAAAUUUGUGUGUUCAUCUUCUUAAUUUCUUCUGCUAUUUUUACUUGUUUGUUGUUUAAUCGGGACGAUCCUAACAAGUGGUAUCAGAGCUAGUUUAACUUUCAUAGAUCAGCCCAUUCAGAGAUGGCAGCAACAAGGUUUGAAAUUGAAAAGUUCGAUGGUGAGACAAAUUUCAAUUUGUGGCAAGUUUGAAUGAUGGCAAUUCUAGUUCAAAAUGGCUUGAAAAAGGUUGUUACAGGGAAAAAGCCUGAGAAUCUAAAUCAAACAGAAUGGGAAGAGCUUGAUGAAAAGGCCUUGUCUGCAAUCCAGUUGUGCCUCGCGAAUACAGUAUUGCAGGAGGUAUUGAUGGAGAAGACCUCAUUCGCCUUGUGGAAAAGGUUAGAAACUCUUUAUGCGACUAAGUCUCUGGCUAACCGAUUAGUGUUGAAACAACGUCUAUUUACGUUUCGCAUGAACGAAGGUGAGCUUCUUAAAGAUCACAUCAGUCAAUUCAUUACUCUUUUAAAUGAUUUAAAGAACGUUGAGGUUCAUAUUGACGAUGAAGAUCAAGCUAUGCUAUUAUUGUGCUCUUUACCCUCUUCAUACAAGUCUUUCAGGGAGACCCUGAUUUAUGGCAGAGACAAACUCUCGUUUGAAGAUGUGAAGGGUUAUUUGUUGAGUAGAGACAAACUCGACAAUGAGUUUGGUUUGAAUAGCAAAGCAGAUAGGCAAGCUUCCGUUUUGGUAGCAUCAAAGAAACGAGACAAAAGGUGUCGUUAUUGUAAAAAGUUAGGUCACGUCAAAGCAGAUUGUUAUAAACUGAUAAAUAAAAGAGAUGCUGAGAGUAACGAGGAAGAUGUAGCUGGUGCUAAUUUGGUCGAUGAAGGCGAUGAUGAUUUCUUGUUAGUGUCAACGAGCGAUAAUUCCAAGCUUACGUCUGAGUGGAUCCUAGAUUCAGGAUGUUCUUUCCACAUGUGUCCCAAUAGAGAAUGGUUCUCCACAUACAGUUCAGUUGAAGGUGGAGUUAUGCACAUGUGAAACGAUUCAUCUAGUAAAAUAAUCGGUAUUGGUACUAUUAAAAUUAGGAUACACGAUGGGACGAUUAGGACACUCUCAGAUGUCAGGUAUGUACCUGAUUUAUGAAAGAAUCUCAUCUCCUUGAGUAUUUUAGACUUGAAAGGAUGCAGAAUCAACAUCGAGUCGAGCGACAUUAAAGUACCUCGUGGAGCUCUUAUUUUGUUAAAAGGUAAAAGAACCGGCAGUCUUUAUGUUCUAGAAGGUUCUACAGUGACCGGUGAAAUCGGACGUCCCUCGUCCGUUACGGAGUCAAAGUCAACUCAUUUGAAGCGGAGGCAACUUGGUCAUAGGAGGGAAAAAGGUAUGACCGUUUCGUUGAAGAGAGGUUCUCUUUUGGAUGCAGGUUUUGAAAAGUUAGGGCACUGUAUUCGUGAAAAUCAGACCUGGGUUAGUUUUGAUUUGGCAGGGCACAAGUCGAAGGCUAGAGGUCUUCCAGCUUCUAAUCAUAGAUUCGACUCAAUUAAUUCCCUGCAUAGUUCAAGAUAGGCCCGUGGCGGGUUUUGGAAAAGAUGGCAUUGAAAGAAUUCGUGUCAAGGUGGAGAUUGUUAGAAUUGUGUGACCCAAAUUCUAAGAGAUUGCUUGCAAGUCAAGUUAAACAAAAAUAUUUUUUCUUUCUAGAAGAUUUAGUAUUUAUUAGUAUAAUAUAUUUAGCAUUUAUUAUUAUAGUUUAUUUGACUUACUAAUUUAGCCUAUAAAUAGGCUCUUUACAGUCUUAGAAUUAAGACACACCCAUUAGAUUAGAACUCAUAACACAUUCAGAGAAUUUUGUGUUUACGUUUUCGGGUUCUUUGUUUUCGGGUUUUCGGGUUUAGUUUUUAUCUCCAUCUUUUGUACUCUUCAUUCUUUUGCCAUUAUAGUAAAAUUAUCUUUGCCCGUGGUUUUUUAUCCUCUUUAAAGGGGUUUUUCCACGUUAAAUUUGUGUGUUCAUCUUCUCAAUUUCUUCUGCUAUUUUUACUUGUUUGUUGUUUAAUCGAGACGAUCCUAACACUAAUGAUUAACAUCAACCAUGAUGCGUAUUUAAGUUCAAACAAUAUGGACCAUAUCACAUAAUUAAGUAUCACUCAUUUAAGUAGCAUUGCACACAUUUAAAAUAACAUGAUUUAAAACUGAACAUGUUUCUCCAUCAAUUAUAAAACCAUGCACAUAUGACCUUGUUAUCUUAAGUAAAUUUGGGCACAAAUAACAGUUAAGAUUACACAUCAUUCGCAUGCCAAUAUAUAUGCAUUAGAUCGUGCCAAAAAUUUCAUUCAUACCACAAGCUAAGUUAUUCCACAAUCAGACAAUCAUUAUAACCUAUAAUACAUAAUAUAUUUAUUUAAAUGUUAUAAAUCAAAUAUCAUGCUUAUCAUUUUAGCAUCAUAUCCUUAGCCUUAUAAACAUAUUCAUUUUAAUUAUCAACUAAAACAAUCAUAUGACAUAUUCAUAUUUAUCUUUUACCAACCAUACCUAAUUAACCAAUCAUUUAAGCAUGAUAUAUAUGCAGACAUUACCAAUACAAACCGAAUCAAAAUAACCUAUACACAUUCGAACUAUAAUCAUCCUUUUACCCCACUACUAAGCCGAAUUAUAAAUAUACAUCAAACAUCACAAACAUUUAUAUAUUCAGUAUUAAUCUUGCUAAUUUAAUCUAUAAGCAUAUACUAAGUGCACACACACAUAUAUGACGUGCAUAAUACUUAAUUCAUAUAUUAAAAUUUUAUAUAUAUCAUUUCUCAUUUUCCAACUCAAAUUCAUGUACUCAUUUAUAGCAUAAAACACACUUCAAAAAUAGACCUAAAUCAUGACUGAAUAUAUAUAUAUAUUACUUUCGAUACAAGCUUAAUCCAUGACUUAGUUCAAUCGAUCAUUAACAAAACAUAUUAAACAAGUCACACAUAAUCAUACCAUGACCGAAUCUAAAUAACUUAAGCAUCAAAGAAUCUAUUAUAAUCAUAGGCAUAGAAACUAAGCUUAAUCAAAAGAAAUAAGCCAUUUUUUCAUGGCUUAAAAUUAUAACCCAAAAAUCUAGCAUUUCAGCUAUGCUAUACAUGCCAUAAGAUCGAAUUUAAUCUUAACAAAAUACCAAAAGGAGUCAAUAGUGUGAUAGCCUUCUUCGAUGAUCCCCGAGCUCGUAACCGACUUCCAAAAUCUAUAAAACAAAGAGUAAACAUGCACACAGUAAGCUUCCACAGCUAAUAAGUCAUAAACGAACAUUAAUCAUAUGAACAUUAACACUAAAUCAAACAGCCAAGUCAAUCCAAACCUUAGUUAAAUAUACAUAUAUCACACUCACAAGUUUAUAUGUUACCAAAAAUAAAUUAGCAGUUAUCAUCAUAUAACUAAAUGCACAAAUACUCAUAAACAUAUAUAAUUAUCACUUUUAAAUAUUUAACUAAGGUUUAUAAAACAAAGAGUAAACAUGCACAUAGUAAGCUUCCACAGCUUAGUAAGUCAUAAACGAACAUUAAUCAUAUGAACAUUAACACUAAAUCAAACAGCCAAGUCAAUCCAAACCUUAGUUAAAUAUACAUAUAUCACACUCACAAGUUUAUAUGUUACCAAAAAUAAAUUAGCAGUUAUCAUCAUAUAACUAAAUGCACAAAUACUCAUAAACAUAUAUAAUUAUCACUUUUAAAUAUUGCAACGAUAUCAUUAUGCCAAAUCACUUAUAAUAUUACAAAUACACCAAUAGACCAAAUCACUUAUAUGCUCAAUUAUGCUAACACGUAAUUCAUAUCUUACAUAGCUUCAAAUCAUCAAUUCAAAUAUACAACUUACCUUAAUUUCAUAACAUAGUAUGAAUACAUACUUGAACCUUUUAAUUCGAUUUCACAUUCUAUCUUUACUUCACAUUGCCCCAUGAACCGUUCGGAACAAAAAGGAUACGCGGAUAUUCAAAAGGCUCGUACAAUGCCAACGUCCCAGACAUGGUCUUACAUGUAAUCAAAUAUCGAUGCAACUGUCCCAGACAUCGUCUUACACGUAAACACAAGUUGAUGCCAACGUCCCAGACGUGGUCUUACACGAAAACACAUAUCGAAAAUCCUAUGUCAUGACAUAAGUAUCCUAUCUAUUCCUAGGGUUCGUACGGGACUUCCAGACAUUGAUUAUCGAUCAAAUCAAACUCAAAAUAAAUCCCUAUUCCAAGAUCAUAUUCGGCCAAUCAUUUAAUAAACCAAAUAAUUAAUUUAUCACAUAUUAUUUACAUAUUCAUUAAUUUAACAACAUUUAAAAGCUUAUUGACUUACCUCGGAUGUUAUCAGACGAUAUAAUUGACUAUUCGAUUACUUUCGAUUACCCCCGAUCUAAUUUCGUUUUCUUUCGUUCUCGAUCUAAAUAAAUUCAAAUUUAACUAAUUUAAUCACACAUUCAUUCAAUUUAAUCCAAAAACACAUAAAUGAGCAAAUUACCAUUUUACCCUGACAUUUUACACUUUUUGUAAUUUAGUCCCUAUUGCAUAAGACACAAAAUACACAAAAUUUGCAUAUACCAUAGCUAGGCCGAAUCUUCCUAUAGUCCCUCUAAGUCCACAGAUUUUAUUCAUUUCACAUUUUAAUCUCUAAAAAUAUUAUUUUUGCAAUUUAGCCGUAAUUACUCAAUUUCAUCAAAAAUUCCAAUACAAAACAUAUUAAUCUAAAACAUAUAUUUCAUUAUUCAUCAUCAAAUAUCACAUAACACAAAUGUUCAUCAAUGGCACAACUCAAAAUAUUCAUCAAAAUAAAAAAUUCAAAUAUGGAUCGGAUAGUAUUCGAAGCAACGAUCUUAAAAAGGUAAAAAUUAUCAAAAACCAAACAAAGAACUAACCUUAAUCAAGCUUCAAAAUGGCCGAAUAUUGCUUGGCUUCUUUUCUUUUUCUUUUGCAUGAAUUCAGCUAAGGAAGAUGAUAAUAACCUUAAUUUUUUUUUAUGUUUUUAUCUAACAUAUAUUAUAAUAUAUUUUUAAUUUACUAAUAUAACCUUAUAUAAAUAAAUAUAACUUAUAUAUAUUUUAAGGUUAACAUUGUCCUUAGCUGUCCACUAAUACUAGCUAUGGCAUAAUUUCAACAUAAGUGCGUCAUAUUAUAAAGACAAGUUCAAUUACGCAAUCACACAUUUAACUAUCAAAUUUUUAUUUUACGCGAUUAAGCCGUUUUCUUUAAUCAAUCAUUCAAACGAUAAAAUUUAAACACGAAAAUUUCACACAAUCAAAUUCACACAUUAUAAACACACAAAAUAAUAUUAAAAUAUUUUUCUGACUCAGAUUUGUGGUUCCAAAACUACUAUUUCGAUUAGGGUCAAAAUUGGGCUGUUACACUUUGACUUCUCAGGUAAUUAGCAUACUUAGGACCAAACGACGUGCAGAAGCUCAUAUUGGAUUCUCGAUUAUUUAAUUAUGAUGGUUCAUGUUUUUAAAUUAUUCUGGACUUUCUAGAUUUUUUGGGGGGUUGUAAAUCUGUUUCUGUAUUUUGCUUUACAUUUUGGUUUGCUUAGUUAAAUUUAGUAAUUAUUACUUAAAACUACAAAGUUUUGUGUUUUGCAAAUUAAGUCGCGAUUUUUGAAAUUUAAUACUCUGAAAUUUCCGCUGCAAAAUAAAGUAAUCAUUUAAGUGUUUUUCUAUAAUAAAUUAAAUAGUUUCAACGAGUGUUUUCUUAAAAACUGCAAAGUCAUUUGUCAUAAUUAAUAUUGCCAAAACAUACGAUUUCAAAUUCAAUUUCUAGGUUUUUUAAAUAAGCUAAUGUAAUUCCUCCAAAUUUGACCAUAACAUCUAGGUCGUGUUUGGGAUGUUACAAUUUUAGUCCUUAAUUUUUAUAUUUUUAUCAAAUUGACCCUUAUUUUAUAUAAAAAUUAUAAAAAAAACUCAAAAUCAUUUACAAAAUAGUAAAAUGUAUAUAAAAUUCUAGAAAAAUAAAAUCUUGAAUAUGUUGUUGAAGAACUAAAUUGUAUGAGAAAUAAAGAAAAGUAUCAUUCAAUAGAAUCCAAUAACAAACUUGGCACAUAACAAAAUAAAAAAUUUAGAUCAUUACAUACUUCCUCAAUGUGUCUCGAAACCAAAUUAGUAGAAUUAUCUAGUUGAGUUUCAUGCUCUUGAAGAGCAUUUAGAACCAGUAUUACAGAGGCUUAUGAAAUCGACCCGGAAGUCAUUUUUUUUAGUCAAAAGAUUAAAAAAUAUCCCACAAAAUUUUUUUCAAACUCAAUUCAAGAUUUAAUUAUAUUUAAAUUAUUUUCCAUAACCCAAAUUGUAAAAACAAAUUAUGUUUCUUCUUCCAUGGUCGAGUUGGGCUUGGACAAGGUUUUUAUGUCUUGAGCCGUAACAACUUGACUUCAAUUUAAAUAAUAAAAGUUAUUUUUAAAAUUCAAAUUUAAUUAAUAAUAUAUAUUUUUUUAAUAUUUUAUUAUUUUCUAAACUCACAAAUGAACUUUUUGGAUUGACCAAGCUAAGCUAAAAAUGGGUUAGGCUUGAAAAAAAUUAGAUUAUUUAUAAGAGUAUAUCAAGGAGUCUAAUAAUUACAAUUUUUUUUGGAAGGUCUUAAUAACACUAGAAAUCUUAUCACAUGCGUAUGCAUGUAGAAAUCACAUAUUUAUAACACAGACUGUGUUUAAAAAUAACAUACAAUGAAUACUGAAAAGUAUAAUUUGGAACUAAUUAAUAAUAACACGUGAAAUAUGUAUGAUAUUAAAAUAAAAUUAGAUUAAAUUGAGAGUAAAACAAAAUCUAAACACAAAAACACAUCAUAUUAAUAAUACUAAAUAAAUACAAAUGUUUAUCAUUGUUUUGUCUUCAAUCCCGAGUUGGUGAUGCUAAAUCAAUAACAUUAUUUACAUACACAAAUAUAUUAAAACUUAGAACACAAAUGUUUAUCUGUUAUAAAGCAUGUACGACAUGGACAUUUCUGACAUUUGUUGAUUUUGCAAGUGCAUUAGGAUGAGAUUUGUGUUUACGGAGGAAGUGUGGGAGUUUAAUUCAUUUGCCAUAUUUAGUGGCUCAACCAUACGUAUUUCUGUAUUUGGCGAUGAAUCACCUAAUGAUUUGGCAGUUAGAAUGCGAAUAUUUUGAAAUAAUGUUUCAUACUGGCACUAAGUGGUGUGUAGGGUCUAAUAGGUAUUUAAUACCUUAUAUGGUGUGUAGGAAUGGUCGAAGAUGGUGUGUAACGGAUCGGAUUAGGAUUGUAAUCUACACUUGAUAUUUUCUGAUUCUGUUUCUGUAUAUGAUAUAUGUCUAAUUGACUUCCGAAAGCACGUUUGAAAAUUAUAUCUUAUAUUUUUACUCUUAUAAGUUACACAUUGAGUUUGUAAGCUCACUCUCAAUUUCUCUUAUUCUUAGGUAAUCCUUAGACUUAGGUGGGUCGGUGCAACUGGAGUUCGAUUAAUUAUCUACUUGUUAUAUUUGUUAUUUUAAUAUGGUUUAUUCUGUUUUGGUUUUGGACUAUUUUUAAGUUUAGGUUUAGUUUCGUUUUAUUUAUUUGAACAUUUUUGGUUAGUUUAAAUUUGAUCUACAAAAUGUUAAAUUAUAUAGCAACAAAUCGUGUUUUCAAAAUCGGACUCAACUAAGAAUUUUCGCUGCAAACGUAAGUGUUUUAUGAGUAAAUAAUCGACAAAUUUAUCGAAAUGGUUAAGAACGAUAUUUUCCUCAAAUAAACUCAAAUUUUACUUAAUAAGAGCUAGCAUUGUUUUAUAAGUCGAACAGAUUCUAGGUUUUUAAAUAAAUUGUAGUAAUAUCUCCAGAUCUGGCCAUAAUAUCUAGGCCAGGUUUGGGGUGUUACAGAGCCUAUAAGCUCAGCCAAUGUUUCUAACUUCUCAAUUAAUCAAUAUAUUUAGGACCAGACGACGUGCAAGAGAUCAGAUUGAGUUCUCAAUUAUUUAAGUAUGAUGGUUCAUGUUUUUAAAUUAUUCUGGACAUUCUGAUUUUUGGGGGGGGGUUGUAAAUCGUUUUUCGGAUUUUGCUUUGCUUAGUUGGAUUUAGUAAUUAUUACUUAAAACUACAAUAUUUUGUGUUUUACAAAUUAAGUCAUGGUUUUCAAAUUUUAGUACUCUAAAAUUUCCACUACAAAAUAAAGUAAUCACUUAAAUACUUUUCUAUAACAAAAUAAAUAGUUUUAAUGAUUGUUUUCUUAAAAACUGAAAAGUGAUUUUCUAGAAUUAAUAUUAUCAAAACACACAAUUUCAAAUUUAAUUUCUGGGUUUUUAAACAAGUUAAUCUAAUUUCUCCAGAUUUGACCAUAACGUAUAAACCAAGUUUGUGGCGUUACAAUUUUUUUCCUCAAUUUAUAUAUAUUUUUAUCAAUCUAACCCUGAUUUUAUAAAAAAAUUAAAAUCAUUUAUAAAAUAGAAAAAUGUGUAUAAAAUUCUAGAAAAAUAAAAUCUUGAAUAUGUUGUUGAAGAACUAAAAUGUAUGAGAAAUAAAGAAAAGUAUCAUUCAAUAGAAUCCAAUAACAAAUUAGAAACAAAACGAAAUAAAAAAGUUCAGUUUCAUGCUCUUGAAGAACGUCUAGGACUAAUAUUAUAGAGACUUAUAAAAUCGACCCGACUGUCAUUUUUUUGGUCAAAAGAUUACAAAAUAUACCAAAUUUUUUUUUUCAAACUCAAUUCAAAUUUUAAUUACAUUUAAAUUAUUUUUCAAAACCAAAAUUGUAAAAACAAAAUGUGUUUCUUCUUCCAUGGUUGAGUUGAGCUUAGACAAGGUUUUUAUGUCACGAGCUGUUCGAACUCCAAUUCAAUUUAAAUAAUAAAAAAUAUUUUAAAAUUUUAAAUUUAAUUAAGAGUAUAAAAAUAUUUUUUAACAUUUUAUUAUUUUUUGAACUCUCAAAUGGACUUUUCUAGGUAGACGGAUUUCUUAUUCGUCUUUUUAUACAUGUAAUUAUUAAUUAUUUUCUCUUUCUUCUUCUCCUUCACACACUUUCCCAUUAAUUCCUAUCACAAUUUUGCUUAUUUCUAUUUUCACCUUUUUCUUCACUCUUUUUAAUUUCUUUUCAUCUCCAAGGUCUAUCACUAAUUUUCAAUUAUCCAGUCAAGGUAAUUUCCUUUCAUUUGCUUCAUUCAUGACUAUACAAUGAUUGUUUUUUAUAUCAGCUACUGUUAUAGCAGCUUGCUUUGUAAGAUGGUCAAGAUAAUAAGAUCUGCAGCAAUGGUUUCCUCUAGUGAUUAUCAACAGUUUUAGAUUUUAAGACAGGAUGAUCAGCAGACAUAAUCUACUAUAGAUACAGAUUAAUACGAAAAGAGCUAUGCUUUGUAAGAUAGUCAAGGUAAUAAGAUCUGAAGCAAUGAUUUCCUCUACUGAUUUUCAAUUUUAAGACAGGAUGAUCAGCAGAUAUAGUCUACUAUAGAUACAAUUUAAUACGAAAAGAGCUACCCAGAAGCAAUAUAAUGUUGAAAUCUCAUGCUGUUGAACAUUUUACCUCUUCAUAUUCUGUAAUGAACUCUUGCACACUUGAAUCUAGCAUGUUGUAUAGUUUGAGGGAUUGAUUCUGGAUAUACAAUGGUGACCAGAAUUUCAUCAUGUUUCUGUCUGCCACCCAUCCAUAGCUCCAUCUAAUAGACGCCAUUGCUUGAAACUUGCAUUCAUGAUUUCCUUUUCAUGCUUACACCGACAUAUCAAUACUUCAUAAAAUAUCCAAUUCAUUCACAGAUUUUCAUUCUCUGCUACUGUUAUAUAUGAUUGCAUUACAGGGACAAAGCAAUGGAGUACGUAGAGCCUGUUGUCGGCAUUGCAAAUUGUCUCGGAACUCCUGCUUGUAAGUAUUUUAAAAAAAUACUUAUUGCAUUGAUUGUUGAUUGCAAAUUGUCUCGGAACUCCUGUUUGUUAUAUAUGUUUAAUUCAUAGAUGAUAUGGGUACAAGACAUUAUAAUGAUGCAAUAGUUUAAAAGAAAGUAAAUAGGAGGAGUAAAAUUGUGGAGGGAAAAUAUUUAAAAAAAAAUUGAAGGGGGGAGGGUUUGGGGUAGAUGAGAGGUGGGAUGGGAAGGGAAUAAAAGUUUUAGGGGAAAAGUGGGAGGGAGUAAAAAUUUUGGGAGAAAAUAAAAGGUUUUGAGGGUUUUGGGGAGUAAAAUUUUGAGAAAAAGUAAAUGGGAGAGUAAAAUUUUGGUGGGAAAUGGAUUUUGGGUAGAUUGGGGGGUUGGGAGGGGAGUAAAAGUUUUGGGGGGAAAGUAGGAAGGAGUAAAAGUUUUGAGGGAAAAGUAAAAAGGUUUGGGAGUUGGGGUGAAAAUGUAAAAUAUUAUAGUUUGAUAUUCGAAUUAUUCGAAUUAUUAGAGUUAUUCGAAUUCGAAAACUCAACUCGAUUCGAACUCGAAAUUUGAAAAAAAAAUCGAGUUGAUUCGAAUAACUCGAUUAACUAGAAUAACUCGAUUCGUUUAACUCGAAAUCCGAAUUUUUUUUAAAUUUUUUCGAGUAGAAUCGAGUUUUGCUCACCCCUAAUAUAUAUCCUGAACUUGAGUUGUCAUAUUCUAAUAUUUCUUUGCUCAGUAUUUACUUGAUUGUAUACAUUAGAUUUGCACCCGAAGUAAUAGUUUUAGAAUACUUGCAGUAAUAGUUUGUCUUUCAACUUCAUCAACUAAUCUUUUAAAGUUAUGUGUAUCGAUUGCGGUCGUAAAUCAACUAAAAAUCUAAUUAAGGUAAAUGUACUUAUCAAUUAAUAUUAUAGUUACGAUGAGCAAAGAUAUCGUUCCCACGAGGGCUAAAAGUGCUAGUUAUUAUUGUCUUUCUUUUAUUUAACCGACAAAUUGGAGUGAUUGAUUAAAACUAAAAUUAACUAAAUUAAUUAACUAAAGAACAUGACAAAGAACAAAUUAGAAAAAUAAACGAUUAACAACCAAAAAAAGUGAGACAAUACCUAGGAAAGAACCCACCUAGACUUCAUCUGUCAUUAUCAAUCUAAAUCACGCAAUUUCUUCACUUACUAUCUUGAUCCGUAGAAAUCCCUAAAUUAUGCUAACAUCUCUCUUCAAGACUAACAACAACUAACUCUAGAUUGAUUAAUUGAAUUUUCUUUCUAAUUAAAACCCCUAUUAUCGUAUUAACUUGAUUUAUGGAUCAUUCUAUUAGAUUUGACUCUAAUCCAGUAGAUUUAUGUUGUCCUAUUUUUAGGAUUGCAUGCAACUCCACUCAAUUACGCUAAAUCUACUCUUAAACAGGGUCUAUUCCUCCUCUGAUUUAAGCACAUAAUACAUGAAUCAAUAGUCUAAAAACAUUAUGAAUUAAGCACACAUAAUUGAGAACAAAAUCUAAGUAUUUAUUGCAUAAAAAUUGAAAUCAAAUAAUAUAAUCCAUCCUAAGGUUUAUCUCCCUAGGUAUUUGGAAAAUUAGUACAUAUAGUAAAUAAAAACAUCCCAUAAAUAGCAUAAUUACAAGAUAUAAAGAAACUCAUAAUAAACUUCAAAAAAAUCAAAAGGACAACUUCAAUCUUGAUGGAAAUAUACUUCAAAGUCGGCUUUAAUAGUAUUUUUCGAGUUAUUUUCUUCAAUAUUAUAUGACAACUCACUCUGCUCCUCUUAUCUUUGUCAUAUAUAUAUUAGAAUGCUCGAAAAAUCUAAAAAUUACAAUUUUCUGCAUGUUUAGAGUGCAAUUUGCGAUUUCCACACGAUUUGGCACAUGAUCGUGUGACAGCCUGUGUGGCUCACUCAACUGUGUGUCCAGACCGUGUGCAAUGGCCCAACCCUUGUGGCUCCUGAAACUUGCUCCAGUUUUUCGAUUUUCGCUCCUUUUUGCUUCUAAAUUCUCUCUUAAGUAUAGAAACAUGAAUUCAAAGUAUUAGAAGCAUAAAAUUUACCAUUAACACAUUUUCUCUGUAUAUUUAGCAUAUAUUCAAACUUCGAGGCUCUACUUUGGAGUUUAGGUUCAAAAAUAUGAACCCAUGUUUUCAAAGGUCUAAUUUUUCCAUGAACUGCUGGAAAUGAAAAGAAAAAACAAAUAUUUAAAAAAAUGAAAAAGAAAAAUGAAAAUAUAGUUUAAUGAGACUUACAUAAAUCCCGAGAUUGAGAAAAUGAUUGUCUAAAGAGAAGCAGAAAUUUGGCCGUCCAAGCCAUCUUAUUCAGUUCACCGAUGCAAGUUUCUCCGCUUAGCCGCCGCUGCUCUGAAAAUGAUGAAGGACUAAUUAGUUUAACAACAGUACCAGUACGAUGUCGUAAGGACGUAUCCUACGUGGCAGUCGUGUCAUCUAGCUAAGUCAAACUACGACGCUACAGUUGGACUUCGAUUUCAGUUGGGUUUGGUUUCUUAGCUGGAGUUCUAUUUAAACUUGGGUUUUGUUUUUGGUUAAAUUACCUUAUUAGUUACUAAAUUAUAGGUUGCUUUUGUUUUGUUCACUUAACUAAAAAAAAUUACAAUUUGGUUACUGAAGUAUUCGAAUAUUUUCAUUUAAGUCACUAAAACAAGAUCUUUUUAAAUAAGAAAUAAAUAUUUUUUAUAGAGAAAUUUUAUAUAUAUAAAAAAUGAAAUACUUUAAUUUAAAAGGACAUUUUGUUUAAUCACUUUAAUAGCUUUUGGAGUGAUGAAAAGUCUAAUUUCACUUUGCACCUAAAAUGAUUUUUUUGGUAAUUUUCUUACAGAGCUGGGACUCAAUUGAUGGUUUACGCCAACUCAGUAAAAGGCUUUAACACAGUAUAGAAAAAAAAAGUUUUUAACUAAAAUUUUUAAAAGAAUUUAGGGUAAACUACACCAAUCAUCCAACUAUAAUAUAGAGAAAUUUUGUAGGGUUUAAAAAUAAUUAUCCCUAAUUUUCUCACUUUAUUUAUUUUUAAAAUUUUUAUUUUACUUUUAUUUAUUUUUUAAUUUUAUAAUGUUCUAAAAUUUUAAAAAUAAUUUCAACUUUUUAUCAUUUUAUAUAUUAUCAAAAUGAAAUUCACCGAAAGUAUACAAAUUUAGGACUAAAAUUUUUAUUAAAUCAUUUAAAAAGUUCCACUUAACAGUUGAGUGACAAAAAAAUAAUAAUUUCAAAAAAAAUUAGUGGUGAAAUUGUAACUUUUUUUAAUUGAGUGAUUAAAACAAAAAAUAGCAAUAGUUUAGUGACUAAUAAUGUAACUUUUUUUGGUACAAUGAUAAUUCGAAAUUUGGCUAUUCUUAAAAAGGGUGAACAUCGGAUCAUAUUUAUUCACAUAUUACAAACAUCCAUAAGUAAGCAAUUCUCCCGAAUUAAAAUCAAAUUUUAAUAUUAACAACUUCAACAACUCAUAAAUAGGAAGAUAAUAUGUUUCGGUACACUUGAAACCACAUCCUUCUACAUUAACAACAAUUACUAUGACAAUGAAACUAAGACUCAAUUCACAAUGAAUAUAUAUUUUUGUUAUACCUAAUUAAAGUCAUUUACCAGUAUAUUAAACAUUCUUAUACCCUAGUUUCCCAUACUUUCCCAUUAUUGUCGUGAUGAUGAUGAUGAUGUUACAAUUGAGCACCAAGAUCACUGUAAUACUUGUUUUAAUUGGUAUAAUAAUAAUUUUAAUCUUUUUUUUUAUAUUUUAUAAUUAUAAUUUUAUACGAUACCGUAAAUUAAAUUGAUAAUAAAAAUAAUUAUAAUGCUAUCUGUAAUGGAAGACAGCAAAGAAAAAGGCUAAAAGAAAACGUAAUAAAAAUAGGAUUCCUUGCUAAUAAUUCUGCCUCUGUGGAUCCUACCAGAGACUUCAUAAAUUCCCUGUUUUUAUCUUCACUUUCUUCUUACUUCUUCUUCACUGCUUUUAAUUUGUUUCGAUGUCCAAGGUCUAUCACAAAUUUUCAAGCAUCCAGUCAACGUAAUUUUCUUUCAUUUGCUUAAUUCAUCACUUGCUUUUCUUUGCUUUUGAUUAUCUGCUACUGUUAUAGCAGCUAGCUUUGUAAGAUUGUCAAGGAACUCAACUUCACUGCUUCCUUUUCAGUUCUAAUCUCUCUACACUUUUCAGCCACUAAGUCAGGUAAUAAGAUCUGAAGCAAUGAUUUCCUCUACUAAUUAUCAACAAUUUUAGAUUUUAACAGUGGAUGACCAGCAGACAUAAUCUACUAUAGAUAGAAAUUAAUACAAAACAGCUACCCAGAAGCAAUAUAAUGUUGAAAUCUCAAACUGUCAACAUUUUAACUCUUAAUAUUCUGUAAUGAACUCUUGCACACUUGAAUCUAGCAUUUUAUAUACAUCGAGAGCUUGAUUCUGGUGAUCAGAAUUUCAUCAUGUUUUUGUCUGCCACCCAUCCAUAGCUCCAUCUAAUGGACGCCAUUGCUUGAAACUUGCAUUCAUGUUUUCCUUUUCAUGCUUACACUGACAUAUCAAUACUUCAUACAAUAUCCAAUUCAUUCACAGAUUUUCAUUCUCUGCUACUGUUUUAUGAAGAGAAAGAUAAAAGUGGGGGUGGGAAAGAAGGAGGGGGGAGGAUAGUGCAAAAGAGAGGAGAAAAGGAAUGAUGGAAGGAAGAGGUUAAGAGCAUAAACUGCCCCCAGUUUUUAAACCCCUUUGGAAGGAUGAAAGGUAUGAACCAUUAUAGUUUAGAGAAAGAUGAAAGGGUUGGUGGGAAAGGAGGAGGGGGGAGGAUAGUGCAAAAGAGAGGAGAAAAGGAAUGAUGGAAGGAAGAGGUUAAGAGGCUCCACGUUGUAAACAUUAACCCUCUCUUACAAUUCCUUCUAUUCUCUUUUUAUAAUGUAAAAGCUGAAGAGGUAAAAAAAUAAAUAAAUUUGCUUCAUAUUUUUUCUAUGUUUGUUUUGAAAGAAUGAGUGUUGAAUAUAGAUAAUAUAGAGAAAUUUUGUAGGGUUUAAAAAUAAUUAUCCCUAAUUUUCUCACUUCUUUUUAUUUUUUUAAUUUUAUAAUGUUUUAAAAUUUUAAAAAUUUUCGACGGUGGCCACAUGUAAAUUUCAGACUGUUUUCCGUUAAUGCCUAGAAUUUAUUAGUUAUUUGGGGUUUUUGAUGUAUAUUCUGAACUAUGGAUUGGUUGGCUUUAAAUUUGGGAUUUUAUAUUAUUUUUUAUGAUUUUUUUUUAAAAACUACAACUCCACAAAACACGGUUUUUUCUAAAAACUAAGGAUUUUCGUAAAUAGAAACGAUUUUCCCUAAAUUAAUUGGUUACAAAAGUUUCCCCUAAGAGACAAAUUUUAAAUUAAAUCAAUAAGUUUUUUUUCUGAAUUAAAUAAAAGCUAACUUACUAUAACAAUUUUUAAACUCGACAAUCUUGUCUUCAAAUCCCUUUCCAUGUGACAUCGUCAGAUUCGGCCAUAACGUCUAGGCCGAGUUUGGGAUGUUACAAAAUUAAUCAUACUUGAUUGGAUUAUGAGAGUGAAUUUUAAUGAAAGAUAAUAUGUGAAGAAAGGAGACACCAAAAUAUAAAAAUAGAAAAUCAAUAUAUAAAAAUAGAAAAUCAAUGGCAAAUUGCUUCAAAUGCAAUAGAUGCAAGAAUGUGCUAAAUUGUCUUUUUAAAUUUAAAAACCUUUAUAUACCGAUCUCAGAGAGCGAAUUUCACAUAAUUUUACUCCUAGAAUCAUGCUUAACAAGCAACCACUAAAUCAAAAUUGUCUAAAUAUAGAAUUUGUCAAAGUAAAAAAUCUAAUAUUUUUUAUCAGCCCAAAAAUAAUUUGCAACUUUCAAUUCAACCCCCAACUUGUUUUUUGUUCCAAUUUAGCUCGAUCUGUUUGUUUUUGAACUUCGACACUCCAAUUGUGUCCAUGAUAAAAUUCAGGCAAUAAAUCAUAAGUUUAGUAGAAUUCUAUUAAAAAGUUUACCAAAAUUGUGUAUAUUAAAUAUAUAAAAUUAACCUGCUAUCAAAUUUGGAACUAAUUAAUAAUAACAUAUGAAAUAUGUAUUAUAUUAAAAUAAAAAUUAGAAUAAAUUGUGAAUAAAACGAAAUCUAAACAAAAAAACACAUCAAAUUAAAAAUACUAAAUGAAUACAAUUGUUUAUCAUUGUUUUGUCUUCAAUCCUGAGUUAGUGUUGUGUUUAUUUGUGACACUAAAUCAAUAACAUUUUUUAAUAAAUAAAAAAUUAGAAUACAUAUACUUAUUAAAGUUUAGAGUGAAAAGUAAAAAGUAAAAAUUGCUUUAGUUCAAAAGUAAAUGAAAAAUAUUUACAUGCAUGGUGUCCUUGGUUCAAAUCUUGUAAUGGAUAAAUUUUUAUUGAUUAAUAAAUAUAUGAAAAGAUGAAAAUACCCUCAUAAUCAUAUAUCUUACUUUGCAAAUAAAAUCUUGAAUAUAUUGUUGAAUGGCUAAAUUGUAUGAGAAAUAAACACAAUUAUCAUUCAGUAGAAUCCACUAUCAAUUUAAAAACAAAACAAAACCAAAUUAGUAAUAUUAUCAAGUUGAGUUUCAUGUCUUUGAAGCACAUCUAGAACUGAUAUAACAGAAGCUUAUGAAAUUGAACUUGAUGCCAUUUUUUAGUAUCAAGAAUACAAAAUAUACCACCAAAUUUUCUUUUUCAAACUCAAUUCAAAAUUUUAUUACAUUUAAAUUAUUUUUCAAAACUCAAAUUAUAAAAAUAAAUUAUAUUUAGAAUUUUAUCUUUUCUUAUAAUGUAGAAGUUAUGUUAAGGAACAUAAGAGGUAAAAAAACAGAAAACAAAUGAUUUUGCUUAAUGUUUUUUUUUCUAUAUUUCUUUUGAAGAAUGGAUAUUAGAUAUUUCGAUAUAGAUAAUAAAGAGAAAUUUUAGAGGGUUUAAAAAUAAUUAUCCCUCAUUUUAUUAAUUUUUGAAAUGUUUGUCUACUUUUAUUUAAUUUUUAAUUUUAUAAUAUUCUGAAAUUUUAAAACAGUUUCAAAUUUUGGUACAAUGAUAAUUUGAAUUUCGGCUAUUUCUAAAAACAGUGAACACCCCGUCAAUAAACCACAAUUUGGAUUUAAAAGUGUAACUUAUGAAGGAAUUUAUAUGUACUUGAAUAGAUUGAUUCACAUUAUUCACGUGUUACAAACAUCAUAUGUAAGAACAACUAUAUUUUUUUUGCAGGAUGCCGACUAGUAUAUUUAAUUUCAAGUUGUAACAUGUAAUUAGGCAUUCUUAUACCAUACUUUCCCAUUAUUAUGCUGCUGCUGCUACUGCAGAUGUUGUUGUUACAAUUGAGCACCAAGAUGACUGCAAAACUUGUUAGUAAUGUCCAGAAUGAAGGGAAAGGACAUGGCAGAUUAGUGAAUUAUUACAGAUUUAAAGAAGAAUCAAAUUGUAAAUCAGCUGAUAGAUACAACUGCUGAGAAUCAAAUACCCAAAAUGCCAACUAUAAUGGCAGAAGCAAAGGAAAAGUACAAAAAGAUGGGAUUCCUUACUUAAUACUUCUGCCUUUCUACCCACAACAUUAUUCUUUCUUCUUUCACAAAAUUUCAACCUGCUUUUCUUUCAUUUGCUUCUUUCAUUACAUGUUUUUCUUUGCUUAAUUGUUCUGCCUUUCUACCCACAACAUUCUUUCUUCUUCACUGUUUUUAUUUUGUUUUCAUCUCCAAGGUCUAUCACCAAAUUUCAAGCAUCCCGUCAAAGGUAAUUUUCUUUCAUUUGCUUCAUUCAUGACUAUGCAAUGAUUGUUUUUUAUUAUCUGCUAGCUUUGUAAGAUAGUCAAGGAAGUCAACUUCACUGCUUCAUUUUCAGUUCUAAUCUCUCAACACAUUUCAGCCACUAAGUUAGGUAAUAAGGCAAUGAUUUCCUCUACUGAUUAUCAACAAUUUUAGAUUUUAAGACAGGAUAGGAUGACCGGUAAACAUAAUCUGGCAUAGAUAGGAAUCUCAAACUGUUGAACAUUUAUUCCGUAAUGAACUGUUGCACACUUGAAUCUAGCAUUUUAUAUACAUUGAGAGGUUAACUCUGGUGACCAGAUUUUCUCAUCAUGUUUCUGUCUGCCACCUAUCCAUGGCUCCAUCUAAUAAAGGCCAUUGCAUUUAUGCUUCCUUUUCAUGCUUACACUAACAUAUAAAAAAUUAUUCAAAAAUCCAAUACACUAACAUAUAUGAUUACGUUGCAGGGGCAGAGCAAUGGAAUACGCAGAGCCUGCUGUUGACAUUGCAAAUUGUCUUGGACCUUCUGUUUGUAAAUACUUGAAAUAUCACAAAAAGCUGAAUGAUUAUGUGAGAAACUUGGGGAGGAUCAGAGAUGAAUUGCAUUGUAAAAUGGAAGACGUAGAGAUGCAAUUGAGAGCAGAGCUUCUUUCUCCUGGGGGGAAGAUACCAAAGCAAGGAGUUGAAAAUUGGUUGAAAAAUACGAAAGAGAUGAUUGCGGAAGCACAGGAUGUGGAAAAUAAAGUCAGAAACGGGAGAUAUCUCUGUCGUGCUUGGAACGGAAAGCUGGUUGAUGAAAAGACUCGAGAAAUGAAGGAGUUUCUUGAUAAAGCUCCUAAUGCCUUUGAAGGUCUUGCCAUGGAUGGUCCAAGUGCUGGGUUGCCACUGCCAACAUCAGAAUUAGUUGGGGAGGAAGCUGCCAGAAAAGAUAUUUGGGCAUGUUUGACGCAAAAGGAGGUAAAAAAGAUUGGGGUUUGGGGGAUGGGCGGUAUGGGUAAAACCAAGAUCAUGAAGCACAUCCACAAUGAUUUUUUGAAAGAACAAAGAUUCGAAAGAGUAACCUGGGUUACCAUAUCAAAGGAGUUCAAUGUAAUGAAGGUACAAGAUAAUAUUGCAAGUGCGUUGGAGGCGAAGGAAUAUUUAGACAAAGAAGAGGACAAGCUCAGACGAGCAGCAAUCUUGUCAGAAAUGCUGAAGAAAGCAGGAAAGCAUGUUCUAAUCCUAGACGAUGUGUGGGAUGAAGUCUCUCUAGAAGAAGUUGGGAUCUCUGAGCCGAGUGACAGCAAUGGCUGCAAGUUGGUGUUGACAACCCGUUCGGAGCAUGUCUGUAAGUAUAUGGGUUGCACGGUGAUAAAAGUGAGGCCCCUUUCAGCACAACAGGCAUUGACACUAUUCUUGAGUAAAGUUGGGCCUAACAUAGUGCAAAAUCAAACUAUAACGCCUACUCUAAAGCUUGUUGUCAAGGAAUGUGCGGGUCUACCUCUUACAAUUGUCGUCGUAGCUGGUACAUUGAAGGGAGAAGAGGACCCUCUUAUUUGGAAAAACGCACUCAGGGAAUUGAAAGAGAGAAUAGAAAAAGUGGAAUGAGUGGAAGCUAAAGUGAUAGAGCGUUUGAAAUUUAGCUUCGAUCACUUAAAGGACGAGAAAGUGAAAUUGUUUCUUACAUUGCGCAUUAUAUCCCGAAGAUUUUGAAAUUGAAAAGGAUGAACUAAUUGAGUGCUGGAUUGACGAGGGAUUCAUAGAUGAUAUGGGUACAAGACAAGAAAUGAAUGACAAGGGUCAAGUUAUUUUGAAGAAGUUGGAAGAUAAUUGCUUGUUGGAAAAUGCCUCGUGUGAAAAAAUGAAAAUGCAUCAUGCAGUGAGAGACAUGGCAUUGUCGAUCACAAGAAUGAAUCCUCGAUAUAUGAUACAAGCAGGUUUGCAAUUAGAAGAGUUACCAGAAAAGGAGCAAUGGAGUCCGGAUAUUGAGAAAGUGUCACUUAUGUAUAACUCCAUAUCAGAAAUUUCCAAGGAUGUGCUGCCCACAAAAUGUCAACUGCACACAACCUUGUUAUUGCAGCAUAACCCAAUAAAGAAGAUCCCAUAUUCUUUCUUCAUAAACAUGCCUUGUCUUUGUGUCCUCAAUUUGUCCUAUACGGAGAUCGAGAGUUUACCAAAUUCCAUCUCUGAAUUAAAGAACCUCACAACAUUGUUGCUUCGUGGUUGUUCUACAUUUAGAGAUCUACCAUGUCUUUCGAUGCUUCAAGAAUUGAAGAAGUUGGAUCUUAGUGGGACUAAAAUUGAGGAAGUCCCUGAAGGAAUGGAUAUGCUGAUAAAGCUAAGAUAUCUUGAUCUUGGAGUGCACACUCUGAAAGAGAUACCCGCUGGACUUUUACCAAAACUCGUUCACCUUCAGCACUUGAGUUUUGAAGUGGACAAUGAAAAAACAAGUCUAAAAGCAGAGGAGAUGGAACCAUUGAAGAAGUUGGAGUGCUUUACCGGACGUUUCGAAGACAUCAAUGAAUUGAAUAAGUUCAUCUCCUCAAUGCAACAAAGUAAGAAAAAUCUCACCAAGUACUCUUUACAGGUGGGCUCAGUUAUUCUGGGUGGUGUAAGAGAUAAAAGAGUAACAAUUGGAGGAGUCCAGAAUUGGGAAGGUGAGUUAAUUAUGCACCCAAUUGAAAUUCAAGAGUUGAUUAUUUUUUUGAGAAGCUUAGUCGAUGAUAAUUCUUCCUUCAAAAAAGCGGUUGACUUGAGGGUUUGGAGGAUUUGGGUGUGUGAAGGGAUAGAGUGUGUUGUUUCCCUGUCCUCUUUGCCUCUUCUUCCGCUCAUCCAUUUCAGAGCCUCGAGGAGUUAGAUCUUAGAAAUCUGCCAAAGUUGAGUGCCCUUAUUAUGAAAGAUGAAGGAAUUGGUUCAGCAAUAACAUCAACAUCGGCUCCGUCUGCCACCUUUUCCCAUCUUAAGCGAAUUGAAGUAUGGAGCUGCUCAAGUAUGAAGACGUUGCUUCCACAUUGGUUGCUUCCAAACCUCCAAAACCUAGAAGAAAUACAUGUGGUUACUUGUAGGCAGCUAGUAGAAAUAUUGGGAGCAGUAACAUCAGAAGUUGAAGAAAAAGGGAGUGAUGCAUUAAUCAAAUUCCAUCUUCCCAAAUUGAGAAAGUUGGAAUUGUGGGGAUUACGAAAUUUGAAGAGCAUAUGCAGCAAAAGUGGAGUGAUGGUUUGUGAUUCUCUCGAGUUAAUCGAUGUUACUAGUUGUGAUAAACUGAAGAGAAUUCCUCCAUUUGUUCCCCUUGUUGGCAAUGGGCAGCCAUUUGCAUAUGCUCCACCUUCUCUUACCAUCAGGUCAUGGAAAGAAUGGUGGGAAUCGUUGGAGUGGGAUGACCAUCCAAACUUUAAAAAUGUUCUUCAACCCCUUUGGAAGGAGAAGAGGUAUGAACUUUGAACCAUUUAUGGUUUAGUUUUUUUAUUUUAUUUUCAUAAACCUAAUUUCUCCAUUUUAAUACAAUUUCAGGUAUAUUUUUGAUGUUGGUGAAGAGAAAGAUGAAAGGGUUGGUGGGAAAGGAGGAGGGGGGAGGAUAGUGCAAAAGAGAGGAGAAAAGGAAUGAUGGAAGGAAGAGGUUAAGAGGGUCCACUUUGUGAACAUUGUCCCUCUCUUACCAUUCCUUCUAUUCUCUUUUUCUUAUAAUGUCAAAGCUGAAGAUGUAAAAAACAAAUUAAUUUGCUUCAUAUUUUUUCUAUGUUUGUUUUGAAAGAAAGAGAAAUAUGGUAGGGUUUAUAAAUAAAAUAUAAUUUAAAUAUCAAUUAUUCAAAAUAAUGGUAUUUUAGAUAGCAAAGGUAUUGAAAAUUUAAAGUGAUAAAUUACCUUUUUAUCAUUAUAAAUAAAAAAAAUAUCAUUAUUUCUUCUUUCAACAAUCAUUCUAUUCUAAAAAUAAAUGAAACCAAUAACCCCAAAUAAAGUAUUAAUGAUAUUUUUAAAUAAAAUAACUUCAAAAAGUUUUAAAAAGUAAGACUUGAUGAAACACUAUAUAUAAUUUAAUCAAUUCAAAUAGCUUUGGAGAUUCGAUCAUAACGUAUAAAUCAGGUUUGUGGUGUUACAAUUUUUGUUCUCAAUUUAUAUAUAUUUAUCAAUUUGACCCUGCUUUUAUAUAAAAAAAUUAAAAUCAUUUAUAAAAUACAACAAUGUAUAUAAAAUUAUAGAAAAAUAAAAUCUUGAAUAUGUUGUCGAAGAACUAAAAUGUAUGAGAAACAAAGAAAAAUAUUAUUCAAUAGAAUCCAAUAACAAAUUAGAAACAAAACGAAAUAAAAAAGUUCAGUUUCAUGCUCUUGAAGAACGUCUAGGACUGAUAUUAUAGAGACUUAUAAAUUCGACCCGACUGUCAUUUUUUUGGCCAAAAGAAUACAAAAUAUACCACAAUUUUUUUCAAACUUAGUUCAAAUUUUAAUUACAUUUAACUUAUUUUUCAAAACUCAAAUUGUAAAAACAAAAUGUGUUUCUUCUUCCAUGGUUGAGUUGGCCUUAGACAAGAUUUUUAUGUCACGAGCUGUUCCAACUCUAAUUCAAUUUAAAUAAUAAAAAAUAUUUUUAAAUUUUAAAUUUAAUUAAGAGUAUAAAAAUAUUUUUUAACAUUUUAUUAUUUUUUUGAACUCUUAAAAGGUUGACUGAGCUCGGCUAAAAAUGAGUUUUGCUUGAAAAAAAUUUAGAUUAUUUUUAAGAGUAUAUCAAGGAGUCUAAUAAUUACAAUUUUUUUAAAAGGUUUUAAUAACACUAGAAAUUAGUCACACGCAUAUUUCUUACUUUGCAAAUAAAAUAGUAUUUUUGGUAAUUUUCUUAUUGAGUUGGGACCCGAUUGAUGAGUGACACCAACUCAGUAAAAUGUUUAAUACAUAGUAUAGAUAAAACAAUUCUAAACUAAAAUUUUUAAAAGAAUUUAGGGUAAAAUUCAACUAUGGUUAAGUUUUCAUUUUGGUCACUUAAUUAAGAAAUGUUACAAUUUGAUUACUAAUAUUUUCAAAAUUAUUUUCUUUUUUGUCACCCGACUGUUAAGUGGCACUUGUUUCAGUUGGUACAAUAAUAAUUCUAGUCAUCAGUUUUUAUAUUUUCUAUCAAUUUGACUCUGAUUGUGUAUAAAAAAUUAUUAAAAAUCUCAAAAUAUUUAUAAAAUAGAAAAAUGUAGAUAAAAUUUCUAGAAAAAUAAAAUCUUUAAGUUGUUGAAUAACUAAACAGUAUGAAAAAUAAAGAAAAUUAUGAUUUAAUAAAAUCCAAUAACAAAUUGAAAACAAAACAAAACAAAGUUACAUUUUGCACCUUAAUACAACUCAGUUCAUAAUAGCUAAUAUUCACAUAGUUUUUCAAUUCAGUCCAUUUUAGUGAUGAAUUCACUAAAUUCUAGUUAUAGCUAAACAUAUAGAUGAAAUCAAGUACAAUUUACACAUAUUAAUAUAAAACCAGAUAGUAAGUUUCAUAUUUAAUUUCACACCCUAAUACAACUCAUUCACUUGUAUAUUUAAUUUCAAGUUGUAACAUAUGAUUAUACAUUCUUAUACCCUACUGUCUCAUACUUUUCGAUUAAUUAUUAGAUUUAAUGAUAAAUUUAGUCCUUGAUGUUUAAUUAUUUUAUUAAAAUGGCCCUAAUUGUGUUUUUGAGUUUUUUUUUGCUAUCAACCUUUGUUCUUUUUUUUUUCACCCUUCUUUUUUAAAUAGAUUUAAUGAAAGUACCUUAAAAAAGUUAACCGUGAUAAUGUGGAAUUUCAUAUGUUGAAUAUUUUUAAUGAGAUAUAAUUUAUUAGUUAGAAAAUCCAAUAAGAUAUUUAUAUUCUUGUGAAAAAAAUAAUACAUUAAAGUGAAAAAAAAUUAAUUUAAAGAAAAUAAAUGUAAUUAUUUUAAAAAAUUUAACUCAAUAGAAAAACAUUUUAGUAAACAAACAUAUGAAAGAUUGAAAACUUUUGAAAGAAAAAAUAUAUUGAAACAAAUGCUGAUGGUAAAGAAAAGCUCAAAAAUAGAAUUAGGGCCAUUUUGACAAAACAAACAAAAAUUAGUGACCAAAUUUAUCAUUAAACCUAAUUAUUAUUAUUAUUAUUAUUCAAUGCCAAUUAUAAUGGGCGACAGCAAAGAAAAGAGUCAAAAAAGACGGAUUUCUUAUUCAUAUCCACAACAUUCGUCUUUUAUACAUGUAAUUAUUAAUUAUUUUCUCUUUCUUCUUCUCCUUCACACACUUUCCCAUUAAUUCCUAUCACAAUUUUGCUUAUUUCUAUUUUCACCUUUUUCUUCACUCUUUUUCAUUUCAUUUCAUCUCCAAGGUCUAUCACUAAUUUUCAAGCAUCCAGUCAAGGUAAUUUCCUUUCAUUUGCUUCAUUCAUGACUAUACAAUGAUUGUUUUUUAUUAUCAGCUACUGUUAUAGCAGCUUGCUUUGUAAGAUGGUCAAGAUAAUAAGAUCUGCAGCAAUGGUUUCCUCUAGUGAUUAUCAACAGUUUUACAUUUACGAAAGGAUGCUCAGCAGACAUAAUCUACUAUAGAUACAAAUUAAUACGAAAAGAGCUAUGCUUUGUAAGAUAGUCGUAAUAAGAUCUGAAGCAAUGAUUUCCUCUACUGAUUAUCAAUUUUAAGACAGGAUAAUCAGCAGACAUAGUCUACUAUAGAUACAAUUUAAUACGAAAAGCGCUACCCAGAAGCAAUAUAAUGUUGAAAUCUCAUGCUGUUGAACAUUUUACCUCUUCAUAUUCUGUAAUGAACUCUUGCACACUUGAAUCUAGCAUGUUGUAUAGUUUGAGGGAUUGAUUCUGGAUAUACAAUGGUGACCAGAAUUUCAUCAUCUUUCUGUCUUCCACCCAUCCAUAGAUCCAUCUAAUAGACGCCAUUGCUUGAAACUUGCAUUCAUGUUUUCCUUUUCAUGCUUACACCGACAUAUCAAUACUUCAUAAAAUAUCCAAUUCAUUCACAGAUUUUCAUUCUCUACUACUGUUAUAUAUGAUUGCAUUACAGGGACAAAGCAAUGGAGUACGUAGAGCCUGUUGUCGGCAUUGCAAAUUGUCUCGGAACUCCUGUUUGUAAGUAUUUGCAAUAUCACAGAAAGCUGAACGAUUAUGUGAGAAACUUCAAGAGGAUCAGAGAUGAAUUGAAUUGCAAAAUGGAAGAUAUAGAGCUGCAAUUGAAAGCAGAGCUUCUUCGUCCUCUGGGGAAGAUACCGAAGAAGGGAGUUGAAAAUUGGUUGAAAGCUGUGAAAGAGAUGAUUAGGGAAGCACAAGUUGUUGAAAACAAAGUCAGUAACGGGAAAUAUCUCUGUCGUGCUUGCAACGGGAAGCUGGUUGCUGGUUGAUGAAAACACUCGAGAAAUGAAGGAAUUUCUUGAUAACGCUCCUAAUGCCUCUGAAGGUCUUGCCAUGGAUGGUCCAAGUGCUGGGUUGCCGCUGCCAACAUCAGAACUAGUUGGAGAAGAAGCUGUCAGAAAUGAGAUUUGGGCAUGUUUGAUGCAGGAGGAGGUGAGCAAGAUUGGGGUUUGGGGGAUGGGCGGUGUGGGUUAAACCACUAUCAUGAAGCACAUCCACAAUGAUCUUUUGAAAGAACAAAGAUUCGAAAGGGUAAUCUGGGUUACCAUAUCAAAGGAGUUCAAUGUAAUGAAGGUACAAGAUAAUAUUGCAAGUGCGUUGGAGUCGAAGGAAUAUUUGGACAAAGAAAGGGACAAGCUCAGACGAGCUGCAAUCUUGUCAAAAAUGCUGAAGAACGCGGGAAAGCAUGUUCUAAUCAUAGAUGAUGUGUGGGAUAAAGUCUCUCUAGAGGAAGUUGGGAUCCCUGAGCCGAGUGGCAGCAAUGGCUGCAAGCUGGUGUUGACCACCCGUUCGGAGCAUGUCUGUAAGUAUAUGGGUUGUAUGGUGAUAAAAGUGAAGCCCCUUUCAGAAGAAGAGGCAUUGAUACUAUUCUUGAAUAAAGUUGGACCUAACAUAGUUCAAAGUCCAACUAUAAUGCCUACUUUGAAGCUUGUUGUCAAGGAAUGUGCGGGUCUACCUUUUACAAUUGUCAUGGUAGCCGGUACCAUGAAAGGAGAAGAUAACCCUCUUAUUUGGAAAAAUGCACUCGGGGAAUUAAAAGAGAGAAUAGGGAAAGUUGAAGGAGUGGAAGCUGAGGUAAUCGAGCGCUUGAAAUUUAGCCUCGAUCACUUAAAGGACGAGAAAGUGAAAUAUUGUUUCUUACAUUGCGCAUUAUAUCCCGAAGAUUCUGAAAUUGAAAAGGAUAAACUAAUUGAGUGCUGGAUUGAUGAGGGAUUCAUAGAUGAUAUGGGUACAAGACAAGAAAUGAAAGGCAAGGGUCAUGUUAUUUUGAAGAAGUUGGAAGAUAAUUGCUUGUUGGAAAAUGUCUCGAGUGGAGAAAUGAAGAUGCAUGAUGCAGUGAGAGAUAUGGCAUUGUCGAUCACAAGAAUGAAUCCUCGAUAUAUGAUACAAGCAGGUUUUCAAUUAGAAGAGUUACCAGAAAAGGAGCAAUGGAACCCGGAUAUUGAGAAAGUGUCACUUAUGUAUAACUCCAUAUCAGAAAUUUGCAUAGAUGUGCUGCCCACAAAAUGUCAAUUUCUCACAACCUUGUUAUUGCAGCAUAACCCUAUAAAGAAGAUCUCAAUUUCUUUCUUCACAAACAUGCCUUGUCUUAGUGUUCUCAAUUUGGCUUUUACAAAGAUCGAGAGUUUACCAAAUUCCAUCUCUGAACUAAAGAACCUCACAACAUUGUUGCUUCGUGGCUGUUCGAAAUUAAGAGAUCUGCCAUGUCUUUCGAUGCUUCAAGAAUUGAAGAAGUUGGAUCUAAAUUGGACUAGAAUUGAGGAAGUACCUGAUGGCAUGGAUAUGCUGAUAAAGCUGAGAUAUCUUGAUCUUGGAGUGCACACUCUGAAAGAGAUACCCGCUGGACUUUUACCAAAACUCGUUCACCUUCAGCACUUGGGUUUUGAUGUGGACAAUGAAAGAACAAGUCUAAAAGCAGAGGAGAUGGAACCAUUGAAGAAGUUGGAGUGCUUAACCGGACGUUUCGAAGACAUCAAUGAAUUCAAUAAGUUCAUCUCCUCAAUGCAACAAAGUAAGAAAAAUCUCAUCAAGUACUCUUUACAGGUGGGCUCAUCUUUUAUCCCUCAUAGAAGAGAUAAAAGAGUAACAAUUGCAGGAGUCCAGAAUUGGGAAGGUGAGUUAAUUAUGCACUCAAUUGAAAUUCAAGAGUUGAAUAUUUUAAGUUGCGACUAUUUGAGAAACUUAGACGAUUGUAAUUCUUCCCUCAAAAAUGCGAUUGACUUGAGGAUUCGUGAAUGUGAAGGGAUAGAGUGUGUUGUUUCGUUGUCCUCUUUCGCCUCUUCUUUCGCUCAUCCAUGUCAGUGCCUCGAGAUGUUGUAUCUUCAAGAUCUGCCAAAGUUGAGUGCCCUUAUUAUGAAAGAUGAAGGAAUUGGUUCAGCAACAACAUCAACAUUGGUUCCGUCUGCCACCUUUUCCCAUCUUAAGGAAAUUACGAUAUACAGCUGCUCAAGUAUGAAGACGUUGCUUCCACAUUGGUUGCUUCCAAACCUCCAAAACUUGGAAAAAAUACACGUGGAGUAUUGUAGUCUGCUAGUAGAAAUAUUGGGAGCAGCAACAUCAGAAGUUGAAGAAAAUGGGAGUGAUGCAUUAAUCAAAUUCCAUCUUCCCAAAUUGAGAGAGUUGUCAUUCUUGGAUUUACCAAAUUUGAAGAGCAUAUGCAGCAAAAGUGGAGUGAUGGUUUGUAAUUUUUUCGAGUUAAUCGUUGUUGUUGAGUGUGAUAAAUUGAAGAGAAUUCCUCGAUUUGUUCCCCUUGUUGGCAAUGGGCAGCCAUUUGCAUAUGCUCCACCUUCUCUUACCAUCAGGUCAAGCACAGAAUGGUGGGAAUCGUUGGAGUGGGAUGACCAUCCAAACUUUAAAAAUGUUCUUCGCUUCAAACCCAUAGAAUAAUGAAAGGUAUAAAUCUAAUUGCUCCAUAUUAAUAAAAUUUGAAGUAUAUUUGUGAUGAUGAUGAAGAGAAAGAUAAAAGGGUUGGUGGGAAAGAAGGAUAGUGCAGAAGAGAGGAGAAAAGGAAUGAUGGAAGGAAGAGGUUAAGAGGCUCCACAUUGUAAACAUUGUCCCUCUCUUACCAUUCCUUCUUUUCUCUUUUUCUUAUGAUGUAAAAGCUGAAGAGGUAAAAAACAAAUAAUUUUGCUUCAUAUUUUGUCUAUGUUUGUUUUCCAAGAAUGAGUAUUGAAUAUAGAUAAUAUAGAGAAAUUUUGUAGGGUUUAAAAAUAAUUAUCCCUAAUUUUCUCACUUUUUUGUAUUUUUUUAAUUUUAUAAUGUUCUAAAAUUUUAAAAAUAUUUUUUAACAUUUUACCAUUUUAUAUAUUAUUAAAAUUAAAUUGACCGAAUAAUUAUAUCACUUAUUAUCAUUGAAUAAAACAAAACAUAGCUAAUAACCAUUGUUAAGUACCAGUUUCAGCUUUUAUGAAUUCUCAAUUCCUCCUUUUUUUUUUUUUUUUGAAGAUAAUCGAAUUCCAUUUAUGGUAUAUAUAUAAUUGUUAACAAGAAUAAAAAUGCAUAAUGCAUUUUAGGUUAUUGAGAGAAUUCCAUCUUCCCAAAUUCAGAGAAUUGAGACUAAGUUACCAAAUUUAGGUUAAAGUAUUCGAGAGGUUCAUGUAAUAUAAGGAUUGUAUUAAGUUAGUCUUUUUAUUAUUAAAUAGAUCAAUUUUGUUCUUAUACUAUUAAAAAAAUUAAAUAAGUCCAAAUCAUAAUGAAAUUAACAUUUAAUAAUGUAUAAAAAAUGUCUUGACAAACAAAAAGAUUUCAUUUACUUCAUCAUAAAAACUUUAAAAAUAUUAACUUUAUUAAACAUUAAAUGUUAACUCUAUUUCAAUUUGACCAUAUUUAAUUUUUUACAACAAUAUUAAAUUGAUCCACCUAAUAGUAAAAAAAUAUAAUCAAAUCCCUAUAAUAAAAACACGUCUCGAAUACAUUCACCCUUCAAUUAAACUAUUCAUCAUGAUACCUUAACAUCAUUAUCCGGCUCAAUUGCUUCACCAAAAUUUGUUAAUCCCAACAUUUUAUUUUCACUUAAGUAUCACUAUCCGAGAAGUAUUUGAACAUGAUCAUAAAAAUGCAAUCCUUUAAAUAAAUUUAAAAAAUACUUAUGCUCAACUCGAUAAAAAAAUUUUUAAAUUCUGAUAAUUUAAACGAAUUAAUUUUAAAUGUAAAGAUGCUAGCAAAGGAGAGAGUUCCAUGAGAUAGAUAGCUUAUAAUUUUGUUUAUAGUCGAUUGAGUCUUAAUUCAAUUGGCAUGAGUAUUAUUACCAGUACAAGAGAAUGUGGGUUCGAGUUCGCUGAAGAGCAGGUUUGAGUUCGCUGAAGAGCAUCAUCUUCCUAUUUAUGGGUUAUAAGUAAUUCUAAAUAUUGUCUCAAAAAGAGCAUAUAUAAUCAAAAUCUAUAAUAAAAUUAUUAAAAAACAAAAACUAUGUCUAUUAGAUAUUUAUAUUCAAAAUCGAAUAACACGGGUAACAUAAAGUUUUAUAUAUAGCAAGAAGAAGCUUUUUUUUUUUAAAUCAAGUCAUGGAUUCUGGGAUUGUUUGGCUUCAAGAGAUUUCUCAUAUUCUUCAAUGGAUUUGAAGAGCUCAGAAAAGUUGCCUUUCCCAAAACCACCACAUCCACCUUUUUGGUAUUGCUUUCCUUCUUCAUCCUUCACCAUGCACCCAAUUCCUUGUAUUAUCUCUAUGAAGAUGGUUGGACUCAAAAUAAAAGGUUCCCACUUUAGUUAACCAAACAAGAAAUAAUAUACAUAUAUGCCGAAGAGAAGUUUGAUUGAAUGACAAGGUUGAAGCUUUGAAAACUUUACAACAUAUGUAAAUGUAUGCGUGGUCAUCUAGAUUUAUUGUUGAUUGGUUAGUUUGUUAAGUUAAAUUAGUAGUCAAUUCUCAUUCCAUUAUAUGAAAUAUUGUUGAUAGGUUAGUUUGUUAAAUAUAUAGUGCAUGCUUGUAGUAAGCUAGUAGAAAUAUUGGGAGCAGCAACAAAAAUAAAUUUUGUGAUGUUGGUGAAGAGAAAGAUAAAAGUGUGGGUGGGAAAGAAGUAGGGGCCGGGGGAGGAUAGUGCAGAAGAGAGGAGAAAAGGAAUGAUGGAAGGAAGAGGUUAAGAGGCUCCACAUUGUAAACAUUGUCCCACUCUUACCAUUCCUUCUACUCUCUUUUUCUUAUAAUGUAAAAGCUGAAGAGGUAAAAAACAAAUAAAUUUGCUUCAUAAUUUUUCUAUGUUUGUUUUGAAAGAAUGAGUAUUGAAUAUAGAUAAUAUAGAGAAAUUUGGUAGGGUUUAAAAAUAUAAUAUAAUUUAAAUAUCAAUUAUUCAAAAUAAUGGUAUUUUAGAUAGCAAAGGUAUUGAAAAUUUAAAGUGAUAAAUUACCUUUUUAUCAUUAUAAAUAAAUACCAUAAUUUCUUUUUAAAUAAAAUAAAUAAAUAUCAUUAUUUCUUCUUUCAACAAUCAUUCUAUUCUAAAAUAAAUAAAAAUAAAAAUGAAACCAGUAACCCCAAAUAAAGUAUUAAUGAUAGUUUUAAAUAAAAUAACUUGAAAAAAUUUUAAAAAGUAAGACUUGAUGAAACACUAAAUAUAAAUUCCUUAGUCAUUUAAAAAGUAAGCUUUGGAGGUCUUAAAAAAAGGGCAAAUUACCAAAAAAGCCCUUUUUUAAAAUUUACUGAAAUGGGCCCGAUAUUUUAUUAUUUAUCGGAAUGGGCCAUUUUCCCCGAAUUCGGGUCCACGUCAGCGCGAUGUCAAGGGACGUGUCAGAACAUCGCGUCCACAUCAGCACGCUUUACUUACGUGGACACAAAUCGUGCCUACGAGGACGCGAUUUGCUGACGUGGAUGAACAGUUUAUGUUUUUUAGCUUGGAAAACUUUGAAAGGCCAUAAUUUUUCGCUCGGUUGUCCGAUUGAGACGAUUUUUUUAUUUCGAAUAACUUUUCGAGAUCUACGCGCUGACAAACAGCCGAAGGUGGUUUGCCGCAUUUUUCGUCAAAAAAGAUCCUUUUUUGCCCCUAAAUUUUGAUUUUUUUGGUUUAAAAUUAAAUUUUGAAACAUUCAAAUCAUUAUUUUCCUUAUUUAUUUGAAGUAACACCGGAUUUUUUUAUAGAAUUGUUGUAGUAUUUUUUCUGAUUUGACACGUGUAUGGAAUAGGUUCGAUAAAUCGUUAGAACGUAAGUAAUAUAAUUAAGAUAAUAACAGUUUUUCUAUAAUAUGUCAAUUAAUUAGUUUAGUUUAGUUGGUUAAGAUGCUUGCUCUUUUCCCUUAGUACCUUGGUUCAAAUCUUGUUACCAAAAAAGAUUCAAAAUUGUUACCAAAAAAAUCCAGUAUUUACUAAAACAAAAUUAAUCGGGGAAUAAUGUAAAUAAAACAAAAUAAGGGCCAAUGUGCAAUGCGCGAAUGACAUGGAGGGUUAAUUUGGAAAUAUUCCCAACCCUCCAGAACGCUGUGUUGCAACAUGGACUAAAAUAAAACGAAAAACGAAUUAAAGGGCGAAAUUUAAAAAAAGAAAAGAACUUAUUUGAACACGCCACUAAAGAGAGAGGACCACUUGCGCAAAUUUACCCCUGGGACAAAACACGUGGAUCCUCCCCUCGGGUUGGGUCACACGGGUCACUGAUUGGUGUGGCAGUAUAUGACGUUGUUUUGGGGCUACUGAAGUAGGCCCUAAACGACGUCGUUUUUAUUACCUUAUAAAAUCCCCCAAAUUAAACCCUAAUCAGAAUUUUCGCCACGUUUACAGAAAAUAAAACCAAAAAAAAAAAAUAAAACCCUAGGUUUUUUUCUCUCUGCCGCUUUGGAAAUUCAGGCCGUUUUGAGGCUUCUCGAACCUCGCAAGGGCUCCGAUCGUGACGGAGUAGGCAGAGAUUCAACACUUCAGGUAAUUUCUAUUUUCUAAUUGAUUUUAUUUUACACACAACGAAUAAACAAUAAUAAUAAAAAGAAACAGAGAAAUUGAAAGAGAAAAGAAAAUCACCUUAAAAACUCACUGCUAUAAUUUUUUAUUGAUUUUUAAUCGAUUUUCGUAUCCCCCUUUACAAAUCCAUGUUUGGCUUUAUAUAGCCAAAAAGAAAAAUCAAAAUCCCUCUUUUUCUAUUUUUUUAUGUUUUUAUCUCCCCUUACAAUUUUCGCUGUAAAUCUGUUAUUUUCUUUGUUGUAAGUUCGUUUCUUCUUUUUGCUGCUUUGGUUUAUCGUUUGUUGCAGGGAGAAUGUGCAUAGUGUGAAGGCGACGUGCUGCGAUGUGCGGGAAGGCGUGCGAGGGAGCCUUGCUGAAUUACGGUGCUCCCUAGGGUUUCUGCCUCCUUUGUUGCUGAAAACAUGUUGUGGGCGUAUUGGGCUAGGGUUUUUUGUAAUUUGGGAUGUUUGGAUUUGUAAUUAGGGCUGGACGCUUAUAGUUUUAAUUUAUUUUAAUUUGGUGUUGGGCCUGGGCUUAAAAUUGGGUAUUACAGUAUUAAUUUUAAAAUAUUGAAUUAAUUAUCACUAUAGUUUAGGGUAUAUGGUUUAGAGUUUAAGGCUUAUGAGUUAUUAUUUUAAGGUUUAUGGAUUAUGGGUUUAAGGGUUAUGGUUUAUGGUUUAAAGGUUGGGAUUUAAAGUUUAGAGGAUAUGUGUUAAGGGUCUAGGAUUUUAUGGUUUAGGUUUAGGGUUUAGGUUUAAGGUUUAGAUUAACUAGUGUUUUCUAAUUUAUAUAUUAAUUAAUUUAUUAUAUAAUUGUAAAAGAGACAAUAUUAAUUUGGUUCUUCAAAAUCUUGUGAAGAUUUGGUUCUCCAAAAUCGUUUCAGUGUAUUUAAAACUGUUAAAGCUGCAUUAUUUUUGUUGAGGGAAUAAGAAAACAGAAAUACUAUUAUUGAGUUUUUAAAUAUUUUCAAAGAAUUUGAUAUUAAAUAGUUUCACAAUAUUUUAAUAAGUACAGGGUUAAUUUUCAUUUUUAUUCUGCUCUAGGGAUAUUGUUGUUAUUUAAAUUGUUGUUGUAUGAACUUAUCGGUUUGCAUCAUCUACACCAAUUUAAAUUUUGACUUUUUACUAGUAUAUUUUUUUUCUCUAAAUUGUUAAUGGUUGCUUUUAGUUUUUUUACUAGUAUUUUUUUCUCUUGCGUCAAUGCUAGUUGGUAGUUGUUACUUUGUAUUAAGAAGAAAGUAUUCUCACAUUGAAUUUGAAAAUGCAGUCGAGCCUUUUUUGACAAGAGGAUCUCACAGGAAGUCAAUGGUGAUGCCUUCGAUGAGGUAUGUUUCCAAGUUACCUUUAGCUUUUCGUUCACUGCCUCAAGUUUCUGCUGGUGCAUCUGGACUUCAUAACUGCAAUUUGCUCACCCCUUAAUUAUCCUUCAACAGGAGUUUAAGGGCUAUGUAUUCAAGAUCAUAGGAGGCUGUGAUAAAUAAGGUUUUCCAAUGAAGCAAGGAGUUCUCACUCCUGGAUGUGUUCGUCUUUUGCUUCACAGAGGUCUGUGGACUCUGAAAUAUUUUUCCUUGUUCUUAUUUGUGUAGAAAUGUUUUUUUUUUGUUAAUUAAAUGUCUUCUUUUCUAAUCUUUGAAUAGGUACUCCCUGCUUCCGUGGAUAUGGUAGAAGAAACGGAGAGCGUAGGAGGAAGUCAGUUCGUGGAUGCAUUGUUAGUCAGGAUCUUUUAGUUUUGAACUUGGUUAUUGUGAAAAAGGGUGAAAAUGAUCUUCCUGGACUGACUGACACUGAGAAACUAUUGGAAAUUGGCCAACCAUGUUGCUGUUACAUUUUGUGGUUGAAGUGCAUGCAGCUUGAUGACAUGCUGCAGCACAUAUGCUUGCUGUAACAGCAAGGUUUCUCUUUAGUUUCAUUCUAAUUAAUCUAGUUUAAAAUGGACAAGUUGAUGACAACUUGAUGCAUUAGGUGUUGAAUGACUAGUUUAGGUGGCUUGUUUAUGUGUACAAGCAAUGUUUUAAUAGUCCCAAUGCUGAUUAGUGGGGUUAGUUGACUAUUUGGUGAUGUAUUUGACUAUAAAUGUAUGUUUCUUCUAGUUGAAUGAAUGAGCUGAAUGAGCUAUCAGCCAUUAGCUCCCUUGCUGUACAUUUGUGAGCAAGUAAAAAUGCUUCUUGCACCUUGUUUCAUGUUCUGUGCUCUUGUUCUCUCUUUUGUUGCUGCCUCUUGCACCAACAAUUGGUAUCGAGAGCUCUUGUCUUAGUGGACCUGUUGCUUCAAAACAAAGAACUUGAUGGCUUCUUCAGGAUUUUCACCAGCAGCCCCACCAGUCUUCAAUGGAGAAGGCUUUCACAUAUGGCUGGUCAAGAUGAAGACUUACCUACAGGCCUUCGAUCUGUGGGAAGUUGUCAACACAGAUACUGAGCCAGCACCACUGAGGGCUAAUCCCACAGUAGCUCAGAUUAGGCAACAUGCUGAUGAGAGGACCAAAAGGCACAAAGCCAUGUCCUGCAUCCAGAACUGUGUGUCAGAUGUCAUCUUCACCAGAAUUAUGGCCUGUGAGACUCCAAAACAGGCCUGGGAUAAGCUCAAGGAGGAGUUUCAAGGCACUGAGAGAACAAGGCAACAGCAACUGCUAAACUUGAGAAGGGAUUUCGAGAAUUUGAAGAUGAAGGAAGAAGAAACAGUGAAGCAGUACUCAGAUAGAAUUAUGGCAGUGGUUAACAGCAUAAGGCUCCUAGGUGAGCACUUUGAUGAGGCAAGAAUUGUGGAGAAAGUCCUCUCCACUUUGCCUGAGAGAUAUGAGGCCAAGAUAUCCUCUCUAGAGGACUCAAGAGACCUUGCUAGCAUCUCUUUGACUGAGCUAAUCAACACCUUUUAUGCUCAGGAACAAAGAAGAGCUAGCAGAGCUGAAGAUCACCAAGAAGGUGCAUUUCAAGCCAAGGCCAGAGAAACCUCGAGCACAAAUGCUCAAAGAGGCAAAAGGCCUUGGAAAAACAGGCCUAAGCUUGAUGCUGCAAGGAGCAAUGACCAGCCCUGUAGAUAUUGCAAGAAACCUGGCCAUCCAGAAGACAGAUGCUGGUUUAGGCCAGAUGCAGUAUGCCAACACUGCAAGAAGAAGGGCCAUGUUGAAAGAGUCUGCAAAAACAGAAGUAAGCCAAGGCAGAAUCAAUUUCAGCAGUCAAAGGUUGAAGCUCGAGUAGCUGAGGACAGUAGUGACCAAGAAGAACAGGUCUUUGCUGUUUCCUGUGUAGCUUCUGAGAAGAAAUGGUCUAAAGGCUGGUUGCUGGACAGUGGUUGCACUAACCACAUGUCACCAGAUGCCUCCUUGUUUAAAACCUUGGACAAAAGUUAUAAAACCAAGGUCAAGGUUGGAAAUGGUCAGUUUAUAAGGGCUGAAGGAAGAGGAGAAGUGUUGAUAUGUACUCCCACAGGCAACAAGAUCAUUCCAAAUGUGCUGUUGGUACCACAGAUUGACAGAAACCUUCUCAGCAUAGCUCAACUGCUCGAGAAAGGUUAUUCUGUUGUGUUCAAGGAUAAACAAUGCCAUAUUACUGAUCCAAGUGGAUCAAGCCUUAUGACAGUCACAAUGACUGAUAAAUGCUUUGAGGUUCACUGGGCAAAUGACUCAAACUCAGCAUACACAGCCUCUGUUGAAGACUCCAAGCUUUGGCAUCAAAGGCUUGGACAUGCCAACUUCAGAUCAAUGGCUCGAUUGGCCAAAGAGGGCUUGGCAGAGAACUUCAUCAGCUCAGUGGAGCAUGAUGAUGUGUGUGAAGUUUGCCAAAUGGGGAAACAGGCAAGACUACCAUUUCCUACAAAUUCAACCUGGAGAGCUACUGAAAGACUGCAGCUGGUGCACUCUGAUGUAUGUGGCCCGAUGAGGACUGAAUCACUCAGCAAAAACAGGUAUUUCAUCCUCUUUAUUGAUGACCUUACAAGGUUUUGCUGGAUUUUCUUUUUAAAACACAAGUCUGAGGUAGCUCAAGUGUUUGUGAAGUUUAAAAAUGCUGUAGAAACAGAAACAGGUUGCAAGCUGAAAUCGAUAAGGACUGAUAAUGGCACUGAGUACACUUCAGCUCAGUUUCAAGCCAUUUGCAAUGAUGCUGGUAUCAAACAUCAGCUUACAAAUGUCUACACACCUCAGCAGAAUGGGGUAGCUGAAAGAAAGAAUAGAAGUCUGAUGGAUAUGGCCAGAUGUCUGCUGUUUGAGAAGAAACUGCCCAAGACCAUGUGGGCUGAGGCAGUAAACACUGCUGUUUACCUUCAGAACAGGCUUCCUACUAAAGCUCUUGCAUCCGAGACACCUUUCGAGGCUUGGUCUGGUUUCAAACCUUCCUUGGCACAUCUGAAGGUGUUUGGUUGCCUGUGUUAUGCACAAAUACCAGCAGCAAAGAGAGACAAGCUCUCUAAAAGGGCUCAACCAGGUGUUCUAGUAGGCUACAGCUCAGUCAAGAAGGGCUACAGGGUCCUGGAUCCCUUGAUAAACAAAGUCCAAGUGAGCAGAGAUGUCAUCUUUGAUGAAAAAGCCUGCUGGAAUUGGGAGAAAAAUGAGCCAGAAGCAGUUUCAGAAGACCUAGUGCCUAAUCAAGCUGAACUUGAGCAGCUAGAACCUGAAAUGGAUGUUGAUGAUGUGCCUGUGAGAGGCACAAGGCCCCUAGAUGAUAUUUAUGAAAGGGCACAGGUUGCAAUAGCAGAACCUAGCAGUUUUGAAGAGGCUGAGGCAGAUGAAGGCUGGAAACUAGCUAUGGUCAAUGAAAUCAACAUGAUUGAAAAGAACCAGACAUGGGAGCUUGUUGAUAAACCUGCUGGAAAGAAGACCAUAGGAGUAAAAUGGGUCUAUCGAGUAAAACAGAAUGCAGAUGACAGUCUGAACAGGCUAAAAGCCAGGCUUGUUGUGAAAGGAUUUAGCCAAAGGUAUGGUCUGGACUACCUGGAGACAUUUGCACCAGUAGCCAGGCUUGACACAGUUAGAAUGAUAGUUGCCUUGGCUGCUCAACAUCAGUGGACCAUUUAUCAGCUUGAUGUUAAGUCUGCAUUUCUCAAUGGCUUCCUGGAAGAAGAGAUCUACAUCGAGCAGCCUCAAGGAUUUGUGAUCACUGGCAAAGAACACAUGGUGUACAGACUGAAAAAGGCUUUAUAUGGCCUGAAACAGGCUCCUCGAGCCUGGUAUGCUCGAAUUGACUCUUACUUGCUCAGUUUGGAAUUUGAGAGAAGUCCCAGUGAACCAACACUGUAUGUGAAGAAGAACCAAGCUCAAACUCAGCUUAUUCUGUCACUCUAUGUUGAUGAUCUACUGAUAACUGGAGGAGAUGGAAGAAUGCUGGAAGAUUUCAAAAGAAAAAUGAUGGAAAUGUUUGAAAUGUCUGAUUUAGGCAGAAUGAACUACUUCCUUGGAAUGGAAGUGAAUCAAACAGAAAAGGGAAUCUUUCUUUGUCAGAGUUCUUUUACUAUGAAGAUCCUGGACAAGUUCUCUAUGAAGAACUGCAAGCCAACAAGCACACCAAUGGCUGUUGGAGUGAAGCUUUCGAGGCAAGGGAGUGGUGAACCAAUUUGUGAGACCAUGUACAAGAGUCUCAUUGGUAGACUGUUGUAUUUGACUGCCACAAGGCCCGAUAUCAUGUUUGCUGUUAGUAUGCUAUCAAGAUACAUGAAUUGCUGCAAUGAUUAGCACUUUCGAGCAGCUAAAAGAGUGCUGAGAUACAUCAAAGGCACCAUUGGUCAUGGUGUAUUGUUCAAAAGGGCUGAAAACAUGAAGCUAAUAGGCUAUGUUGAUAGUGACUGGGCUGGAUCAAGUGAUGACAUGAGAAGCACAUCCGGAUAUGCAUUCAGUCUUGGCUCAGGCAUGUUUUGCUGGAGUUCUAAGAAACAAAGUCUGGUGGCACAAUCAACAGCAGAAGCUGAAUAUGUUGCUGCUGCAUCUGCUGUGAACCAAGCCAUAUGGCUUAGAAAAAUCUUGACUGAUUUAAACCAAAACCAAAAGGAGGCAACAGAGAUUUAUUGUGACAACAAAUCUGCUGUUGCAAUUGCAAAAAAUCCCAUUUUUCAUGGCAGAACCAAGCACUUCAAUAUUAAGUUGCAUGUUAUAAGGGAGAUGGAACAAGCUCAUGAAAUCGAGCUGAUUCACUGCAACUCAGAAGUGCAAAUUGCUGAUAUCUUCACAAAGGCACUCAAUGUGUCUAAAUUUGUUAAAUUCAAAAGGGAAUUAGGUGUUACUAGCAUGGAAACUAAGGAGGAGUGUUAAGUUUAGUUCCCAUGUAAAGGUGGCCAUGCACGACAUGCAAAGGUGGUCAUGCUUCUGGAUUCGCAGCAAGCAGUGGUGCCAUGGUGUGCAGCAACUGAAGUUUGAAGCUGCCAAUCUAUUUGCUGUUUUUAGUUCCAUUUUGAUUGUUUUUGUAAUCUAGUUCAUGUUGAACUAAGUAGGUAAAUGUUUUGAUUUUGAUUGACUGAAAAGUCAGCAAUGCAAGUUGUACAAGCUAAUCUUGUAAGUUUCAAUGCAAAUUAGUGGAGUUAGGUAGUUGAUUAGGUGAUUACUUGUUUGAUUUACUAGUUGACUGAUAUAUGUAAUGGCUUAAUGCCUUGUUGACAAUGUUAAUGAAAGUUAUCAGCUCAUUUUCAUUCAAUCUUUUUCUCUCUUUCUAUGUUUUCACUUGCUAGCUUCAUCUUUCUGUUUUUCUGCUUCCGAGUUUGCUUCUUCACCAAGCCUCGAGGCUUACUACUCAAGCAAGACUUGAAACAGCUUGCUGCUGCCUCUUGCACCAACAAUUGGUAUCAUGAGCCUAUGUCUUACGGGACCAUUGAUUUUGCUUCCCCUACUUGUUGAAAAGAAAGAAGCUGUCAAAGCACAAGCAAGUCAUUAAGGACUGCUUGUAGAGAAGAUAAUAUCGGCUCAAACUUAUAAGAUCCCCAAACUAGCUUGAAUAAGCUGAAGGAGGAGUUUAAAGGAAAGGUGUGAGCUUUCCAAAUGUGCAAGCUUAGCAAGAUGUCAAAGCUGCAAGCUUAGCAAAGUGCGAGCCUGAUGAAGACACCUGUUGAAGACAAUAUGCAAAGAUGUGAGUCUGUCAAAGGUGUGAGCUCAGCAACAUGUGGAAGCUCAAUGCGUGUUGUAUAGUUGCAAGCCUCUUGAAGACAGUAAGCAAAGUGUGAGCCUGUCGAAUUGCAAGCCAAAAUGGCAGAAUGAAGGCAAGCAACUAUACUCACGAACUGUUUGUGCAAGAAGAAAAUGAAUUGGUCAGCUUGAAUCAAAGCAUCUAAGAGCUGCCAAGUUCAAAAAACUUGAUGAAUGACUGGUAUUUGCAGCAUGGAGUCCAAGGAGGAGUAUUGGAAAUUGGCCAACCAUGCUGCUGUUACAUUUUGUGGUUGAAGUGCAUGCAGCUUGAUGACAUGCUGCAGCACAUAUGCUUGCUGUAACAACAAGGUUUCUCUUUAGUUUCAUUCUAAUUAAUCUAGUUUAAAAUGGACAAGUUGAUGACAACUUGAUGCAUUAGGUGUUGAAUGACUAGUUUAGGUGGCUUGUUUAUGUGUACAAGCAAUGUUUUAAUAGUCCCAAUGCUGAUUAGUGGGGUUAGUUGACUAUUUGGUGAUGUAUUUGACUAUAAAUGUAUGUUUCUUCUAGUUGAAUGAAUGAGCUGAAUGAGCUAUCAGCCAUUAGCUCCCUUGCUGCACAUUUGUGAGCAAGUAAAAAUGCUUCUUGCACCUUGCUUCAUGUUCUGUGCUCUUGUUCUCUCUUUUGUUGCUGCCUCUUGCACCAACAGAAACCAAGAAUAAGGGGUCCGAAGAGAGCAUCAAAAAUCAGGAAGUUGUUCAACCUGUCUAAGGAGGAUGGUGUUCGGAAGUAUGUUUAUUAAGCUGUGAGUUUAUUAAGCUGCUUUUAUGAUAAAAUUCAAUGCAUUUUCUGAGAGCCAUUUGUUCUUUCUUUGGUACAAAGUUUGCAACAAUUCUAAGCUACAAUUUUUGUUAAGCUUAUCAUGGAUUUCGUUAUUUGCAUUUCAUGGUAGCUCUUUUCUUCUUUGUUUGAUGCUUCACAUCUGUUUUGAACAUUUUCAGGAUGCAGUUGAUAACAGGAAUGCUGCAGUAAAUUCUAGGAAGCCAGAAGUUAAAAAUGAUGUAGAAAAAGAGAUGUCUGUGAAGCAUCUGACAAGGAAGAAAAGAGUCAUUUGUGAAUUGCAAAUUCAACAGGUUAACCCCAAACUUGUUGGCCAUUCAAAGAAGAAAUCCAAUCACUUUCGUGCUCGUAGCUGUAAAGCAGCAAUUGAGGGGUAUAGCCAGCUUUCUCUGCCAAAGAAGUUUGUACCCUUCAAUCUAAUAAUUGCUCAUUUAGUAACCAUGUGAUUUGUAUUUAUAUAUGCAAAGCUACAUGACUUGUUUUUAUCGAGUGAUAAGUUCAGUGGGACUAAUAAGCACCAGUUACUUUAAAUUUUCAUGAACCCAUGGUAUCAUAAUAAAGCGUACAUUCUGGAAAUGCUUAAAUGUGUACUAUUGAGUAUAUAUUCAGCGGCUUUGAUCACUGAACCUUAACAAAUUCAAUAUCUGAGACUUGUUAUGUAGCAUAGAAGAAUUGGAUGAUAGAAUUUGCGGUAGUCUAGUCUGGUCUGUUAUAAGAUCAAAAUCUGCAAUUAGAAUGAAACUCAAGGAAAAUUUUAUCAUAGAAUCUAACCUAUGAUUAAGAAGAAAAAUCAAGGUAAAAGCUUGUGGUUUUUUUGUCUUUCCGUUCCUUCUCUAUCCACUGUACGGGUUUCAGAAAAAGAGCUUCGCUCGCUCUUGCUAUUAAAGUCGGGUUAGUUUCAUCUUUGAUCUUCUAAUUUUCCUUCUUUGAUUCGUGUUUUUUUGUGUUAAAGUGCCUACAAUUUUGUUUGUUUUUGGAGAAAUCUGGGAUUAUUGUUGUAUUUUCUGAAACUGAUCUAUUAUUGAUGGAAGUCAACCCCUACAGUUGUUGGUGAUAAACACAUAAAUUUGAAUGUUGAUAAAUUAUUGAAUUAUUAAUUUCUGUUAAUUUAUUGCAUAUAAUCAUUGAAUUGUUUAUUUUUACUAAUUAAUUAUAUAUAAAUAAUUAGAUAGUUGAUUUUCGAGCAAUAUUCUUUGAUUGGCUCAUUUUUUGUAUGACAAUGUAAAGAGAUUAAUAAUUGUACUUUUUUUUUUAAAAAUGUCCCCUGACCAACUAUAAAAUUAAAGUUAAUCAAUUGAAAUAGAUGUAGAUCAUAAGCUAUUCAAGCUGCUGCAAUGAGUAGUAUGUUUAGUUUACUAGAGUUUCUUUGGACUUUGGUUUGAUUCAAUUAUCAAAUUUUUCGCUCAGCAUUUGAUUGGUCAGGACUCGAGUUUUCAAAGUUCCCCAAUCAUUUUCUUCCUUUUUUUUCAGAAUCAGAUUUGCUUUUUUGCUUGAAUCUUGACUUUAUAGUCAAUUUGGUGGGUCGGGUUUCUUGAAGCUUUAAGGUUGUAUGGUCGUGGCUAGCGCCAAAUAGAAGGUAAGUGCACAAUGAGUUGAACUGAUUUACUUAUCUUUGCCAUGUUCACUAUGGUUUGAACAAUUUAAGUUACUCUUAUUUUCAUGCAGAGCAUGUAGGCACUAAAUCUGCAGUUCAAAUUCGAAGCCAUGCUCAAAAGUUUUUCUCUAAGGCUCAUUGCUUUGAGUUCAUUACAAGAUUUCCUUGAUUAAGUAAAUGUAUUAUAUCUUUUAUUACCAAGAUUUACUUGAUUAAGAAAAUGCAUUGUAUGUUUUAUUACCUUGCAUAUGUAUUAUUUAUUUUAGUUUUGAUUCUAAAUUUUUAUUUUUACUUUAAUAUUUACGCUAACUUAGAGUUCUAACUUUUGAAUUUUAAUUGUGUUAUUAAUUUAUUAUUUUAAAUUCUAAAUUUAAAUUCAUUCUUUUUUAUAUUUAGUUUUAAAGUCAGAAUAUUUGUAGUAAAUUUAAUUUAAAUAAUAUUUUUUAUUUAUCCUUAAAACAUAAUAUAAUAUUUAUCAUAGAAAUAAAUAUUAUUUGAUAAAAAUGAUUUUUUUUAAAGAUAUGUUUUUAGCGGCGUUUGUGUGAAAAGCGUCGCUAAAGGUCUAUCCAUGUUCUUUAGCAGUGAUUGUGGUAAAGCACCACUAAAAGUCAUGAUCUAUAGUGGCACUUAUAAUAAAAACGUCGCUAAAGGUCAUGUUCUUUAGUGGCGUUUGUGGUAAAAUGCCGCUAAAGGUCAUGCUCUUUAGCGGCGUUUUUGUCAAAAGUCCCGCUAAAGGUCAUGUUCUUUAGCAGCAUUUUUUCAUAUAAACGCCACUAAAACUAGCGACGUUACAAGCACCGCUAAAAGUCUGUUUUGCUGUAGUGGUCUCGAUUCCUUCUUAAUGCUACAUCGGUUUGAAGAUCUACGUUAAUAGUCGAUCAACAAUAAUGAAUGUCACUAACCAAGCUAAGAGGGUUCGAUCAAGGGGUGAGAAAUAAUGAUGACAAGAUGAGACUUAGAUGGGGCAGCAAUGCAGAAAUUAUGAAGGCAACAAAAACUUCAAUGUGCAACAACAGGAGAAGGAGAAAUGGACAUCAAUGGAAAAUCAAAAAUGGCAGAAACUUCUAAACAAAAUAUUGAUAUUAAAAAGGCAAUGAUUCAGCCAAAUAAAUUGGAGAAGUGAUAGGCAAAGGGGCAGCACAAAUAGAAAAUAAAACUUGUGUUUUAGGUUGCAAUAAUGGUGGGUUAUGAGAGAAAAUUGAAGAAUAAUGGAGAGGAAAAAUGAAGGGGACGACAAUAGCUUGAGAAAAAUAAAUAAAAUAGGCUAAACAUAAAAUAAAAUGCAAUUUAUACCUAGGUUAAAAAGGGCUUGGAAGGCAACAAGAUUUUAAGGAGCAGAAACGUUGAAAAAAUAAAAAUUUACAAGGGAAAGGAAUCAAACUCAAGUCUUAAGGUCAAUUUCACUAACUCUUUACCACUAGGCCAAUUAAUCAUUCUAGGCCAAUUAAUCAUUCUUUUCAUAAACGCUCAAACAAAACCUUAAAAAUUAGGGCAAGACAACUCUCAGUUCACUAAAUCGAUUUCUUCUGACACAAUUUUUGGGACAUGACAAAACUAUUAGUAAGUUUAUGUUUAGUUUUAGUUACUUAACUUCAAAAGGUUACAAAAUGGUCAAUAAACUAUUCAAAAGUUUUCAUUUAAGUCAUUGGUUUGUUAAGGUUUUUUUUUAAGUUUGACUAAUGAGCUCCAAGCGAUGAUUCGACAAUUGAUGUAGUGAAUCUAUACCCAUUAAUGAGUGGAACAUAUCUUAGAUCCAAGUUAACAUUCCAUUUAGUGUAGGAGAUUGGAGAAAAAAAGUUGUUCGAAUUUUGGUUCACAGAUUUGUGACGUUCAAAACUGUUUCAUGAAUAUAAAUUAUGUUGUAAAAGAGAAUGGAUAUGUGAGCUUUCAGUUGAUACAAACGGUGCAAACAAAGGUCAUAUAGUAACAAUUUUAAAAGUCUGAUGACUUAAAUGAAAAUUUUUGUAUAGUUCAGUGAUCAUUUUAUAAUUUUAAUAAGCAUACUUACAUUUGUCUUUAGAAUUUGCAAAACAAAUAGAAAAUUCACUUUAAAUGUAUAAAAAUGAAUAAAGAAAACUCACCUUCAUUUCUGAUAGCAAAUAAUAAAUAUGAAAAAAAAAACUCUACCACUUUAAUAUUAACUCUACCACUUUUCCCUUAGAUAUGCAAUUGCAAUGGGUGAUUUUGGGAAACUAAACCAAAGGCCUAUCUUAAGGCUUGCUAAACUUCAUCAGAUACUAUAAAUCAACUGUACAAGGAAAGAUUUCUUAUGUGGAAUUAAUUAAUCAUCUAUAAGAAUUAACUCAACAUCUGUAGAAAAGAAAAUUAAAAUAUCUAAAUUUUUUUUCCCAAGAAACAAAUAGAAAAAAAUAAAUGGAAUAUAAGGGUUUUAAAGUUGAGGAAGGGAAAGAGUGGUGAAAAAAAUUGUUUACUGUUAGUGUCAAACAACAAAAAGAAAAUUGGGUUGAAGGAAGAAGAAGAAAAAGAAAGAAGGAAAAGAUAAGGAACAUCAAAAAAAUGUCGUAAAUUUAAAUGGGUUAAACUUAGGGAUCGGUUUAGUUGAUGGAAAAAAAAAAGUUCGAGACAAAAAAACAUAAAUAUCAAUUUGAGAGAAGUGGAUAAGUUCAGAUACUAAUUUAAUAUUUAAUUGUUAUAAAUAUUAUAGAUUAAGUUACUGGACCAGCAGUGGGCCUGACUUGCGAUUGGUAUGGAGGUGACCCACUUUGUUUGUCGAAAACCUACAUUUUCAGCUAUAGCAAGUCUCAACGGCACAACCAAGUCCAAACGUAUUAAAAUUAAAAUUUAAUAAUUUAAUAAUAUUUUUUCUCCCAAUAAAAUAAUAAAAUAAUAAAUACAUGUAUUAUCAUUCAAAAUGGAAGUAGGUAAUUGGAAAAAAAUAAGAGUGGGAACAUAUUUAUGAGAAAUGGGCAACCGCGUUUUGGGUUGGGUCCUAGACUUUUUCUUAAUUUGUUUGAACACUCCUAACAGGUAACAGCUCUUGAGGGGCCAAGCCAAUAGGCAUCGUGUUUGACCCAAUUCAAUUUCUGGCUUACAAAACUCAACCAAUUUUACUGAUUUAUGUAAAUUUACAAUCACUCAACUAAAUGAAGUUUUUUGGUUUAAUCAAUUUUUUAUAUGAUGAUCCAAGGCAUCGAAUUAGAGCCUUUGGUAAAAGUAAAGAAAAUUUCAAAGUAAAAAAUAAUUUUCAAGAAAUGGGGCCUUAAGAUGUGGACUGCAAAGCUGCGUAGGGGAUGGGAUAAUAAGGCAAAUUAGAGAGCAAAAGUUGGAAGCCCCUCAUUUUGGGCAUAUGUUUCAGCACUUAUCCAUUUUCAGACAAGGAAAUUAUUUAAUAAAGAAAAAGAAAAAUGCCCACCUUUGAGUUAUGAAAGACUGGGGUAGAUGGAAGUAAUUAUGAAAGAUUGGCUGGAAGGACGCGGAUUGGCAAGGACCACUUCACCCAUAUCUUCAUACUUGCUUGGUUAAUCAAUGGUUAAUAAUUAUUCCACCAUUUUAUUUUCGAGAUAUCUCAAUUAACUUUGUUAAAAGAAUAUCUACUUUGCUUGGUCGUUACAUUUCUUUAAGCGCGUUCUAUCUUCGUCCUUAAUAGCUCUUAUUUAUUCACAGUUUAAACCCCAGAUUCUGGUUCGAUUUUAGUAUCAUCCUUAGUCCAUUUAAUUUAUUUUUUUAUUAUUAUUUAUUUUAAAAACUCUUUUAUUAUUAUUUGUUUUAAGUUUUUUUAUUUAUCAUUUAUUGUAAACUGUUUUACAUGCUAUUUAUUUAAUUCUUUUAAUAUGUUAUUCAUUUUAAACCAUUAUAUUUAUAUAAUCUUUUAAAUUCCUAUAUAUGUAUUUUUUUUUAAAAAAAUGUUGUAUGUCUUUUAUUUAUUUGUUUUAAACUAUUAUUAUUCACUUUAAGUUUUUAUAUAAUGUUUAUUUGAAGCCUUUUAUUAUUUAUUUUUGAAUUGUUCUUGUAAAUUAUUUAUUUUAAAUUAUUAUUUGCUUUAAACUGUUUUGCAUAAUAUUUUGUUUUGUUUUCUUCGAUUGUUAAUGUUAGUAUUAAAAAUGAUAUACAUUGUGCGAUUAUUGCCGUCAUGUGUACUAUAAUUAGCUUCUUGGUGUUUUCAUAUUAUUGUCUUUCAUCAAUGUAACAUUUUAUUCAUAAAUCGUUAUUUCAUGUUAUACAUUAUCAUUCCAUUUCAUUUCAUCACUUCGAAAGUUGCAUUCAAUUUUUAUAUACCCAUAAUAAACCGUUCUAUUUUAUCACAAAUAAAACAAAUGCACCUCGUUCUAGUAUUGUACUCGCUAUGAUUCAAAAAAAGGGAAAAGUUUUUUAAUAAGGCAAUAUUUCACGCUUUGGAGAUUCAAGAAAUUGUACCCUAACUUACGGGGUUUCAAUUUUCUCGUUAAAUCUAAAUAGCAAAAUAUCUUUUUAAAUUUCAAGAUAUACGAGAUUUCAAUAAAAAUUAAAGGCAAGCUUUCUCUAAGGUUCCAAAUAUCGUGUCCUAACUUACGGGACAUGACAUUUCGUUACCUCGAGACAAGUGGGUCUUUAACUCUCUUUGCGAUUUAUUCAAGCGUUUUUUUAUUAACAUUAAUAAAAAAGGGAUCAUAUUUUAAAAUAUUUUUAAAAUUUUAACUUUCGACAUUAAGACAUUAAUUAAUCAACUAGGUACCAAUUUUGGGCAUAUCGAGGGUGCUAAUCAUUUCUCGUGCGUAACCGACUCCCGAACCCAUUUUCUGGAUUUUGUAGACUAAAAAUUACCGUUUUAGUAAAUUUAAACUUUUAUUAAAAUUAUUAAAUUAUAAGGUGAUCCGAUCACACCUAAAUAAAAAGGAUUGGUGGCGACUCCAUUUUUAUUUUUAAAUAAAAAGGUUACCCUUUUUUCAAAAAAAUGGUUUCGACUACCCUUAUGUCCGUUUUCGGAUCACAAGAAUUCUAUAAAUUAAAAAAAUAAUCUUACAUGAAGAUGAUAGUCCAUGGUCUAUUUCCUAAGAACCACAACAUUGACAAAGCAAACAAUUAGAUAACAAAUACAUAAUAUUGCAUUCAUUCCCAUAUAUACCACAAAAAUAUGUAUAAGAUCUAAAGAAUGUUACUUUCUAUGUAAUCAAAUCAUUCAAGAAGUGAAUUUUAUUUUGAUUAUCUGUUUAUACUUAUUGAUAGAGCAAAACUUGGUUAUGAUACUAAUUGUUCAAAAAUGAGUUUUUGAAAAUGCAGCAAAAAUCAAUAUAGGGAAAAGCCUAAGUUUAAAAAAAUUAUAAAAUAAGAAUUUAGUUAUAAUAUCUAGAGUAAUAAACACUUAAUAAAAAUUGUACCUUUUUGAUUCGUCUAUGAUGAAUGUUUCAUUGAGUAGUCUUUUCUAUUAUCCUCAAGCUCACGUUUGCCGAGUCACAAUAACAUUAAACAAGUGCAACAACUAAACCAAUGUUGAUAGCACUUAAAGGCAAUGGCUGAAGCAAACAACAAUUGAAAAAAAAAUGAAAGAAUCGAUGUUGCAAAUUUUUAAGAUUAGCACAAUGGCCACAAGGUAAUUGACGGCUAUAAUAAAGGGCUGAUCGACAAGUGCACAGCAGGCUAAAACAACAAGAAAUUGAAGCUAAUCAGCACCCAAAUAGCAGGUAGCACAUUUAGAUGGCAAACAGUACGAGGUUAAGCAACAAAAUUGAAGCAAAUUAAAUAGCAAGUCAGUAACAAAAGGAACCAGUAGCAGCUAAUUGGAAGUUGAUCGAUAAGUAUUUGGUAAAACAAUGUUAUUCGGCCAACAUGCAAAAUAGUACACAUGCAUACACCACUCACAAUUGAUUUGAAUCCCACACCUCAAUUACAAUCCAUAGAACAUUAACAAUUGACCUGAGCACCACUACAACUCGGAUUCGUCUGGAUUCCUUUUUAACGCUACACCGGUUUGAAGAUCUGCGUUAAUAGUCGAUCAACAUCAAUGAAUGUUCACUAACCAAGCUAAGAGGGUUCGGUCAAGGAGUGAGAAAUAAUGAUGACAAGAUGAGACUUAGAUGGGGCAGCAAUGCAAAAAUUAUGAGGGCAACAAAAACUUCAAUGUGUGACAACAGGAGAAGGAGAAAUGGACAUCAAUGGAGAAUAAAAAAUGACAGAAAAUUCUAAACAAAAUAUUGAUAUUAAAAAGGCAAGGAUUCAGCCAAAUAAAUUGGAGAAGUGAUAGGCAAAAGGGCAGCACAAACAGAAAAUAAAACUUGUGUUUUAGGUUGCAAUAAUGGUGGAUUAUGAGAGAAAAUUGGAGAAUAAUGAGAGGAAAAAUGAAGGGGAUGACAAUAGCUUGAGAAAAAUAAAUAAAAUAGGCUAAACAUAAAAUAAAAUGCAAUUUAUACCUAGGUUAAAAAGGGCUUGGAAGGCAACAAUAUUUUAGGGAGCAUAAACAUUGAAAAAAUAAAAAUUAGCAAGGGAAGGGAAUCAAACUCAAGUCUUAAGGUCAAUUUCACUAACUCUUUACCAGUAUGCCAAUUACUCAUUCUUUUCAUAAAUGCUCAAACAAAACCUUAAAAAUUAGGGCAAGACAACUCUCAGUUCACUAACCCGAUUUCUUCCGACUCAAUUCCUUCUGACCCAAUUUUUGGGACAUGACAAAACUAUUAGUAAGUUUAUGUUUCGUUUUAGUCACUUAACUUCAAAAUGUUACAAAAUGGUCAAUAAACUAUUUAAUUCAUUUAAGUCAUUGGUUUGUUAAAUUUUUUUUUAAGUUUGACUAAUGAGCUCUAAGCGAUGAUUUGACGAUUGAUGUAGUGAAUCUAUACCCAUUGACGAGUGAAACAUAUCUUAGAUCCAAGUUAACCUGCCAUUUAGUGUAGGAGAUUGGAGAAAAAAGUUGUUUGAAUUUUGGUUCACAGAUUUGUGACGUUCAAAACUGUUUCAUGAAUAUAAAUUAUGUUGUAAAAGAGAAGAGAAAUGUGAGCUUUCAAUUGAUACAAACGGUGCAAACAAAGGUCAUAUAGUAACAAUUUUAAAAGCCUGAUGACUUAAAUGAAAAUUUUUGUAUAAUUCAAUAAUCAUUUUAUAAUUUUUUGAAAUUAACUAAAAUGUAAACUUAUUAAUAACUCAAUAACCUUAAUUGCCAUUUACCCGUAAACUAUUGAGACCAUUCUAAAAAGUGAUGCAUUAAUUAUAUCUUUUAUCUUUUAUAUAUUGUUUCGAUUAAUACCUAAAUUAUUUGUACGAAAAAAAAAUCAAAAUGAAAUGCAACAUGUUCUGAACUUUUAUUAAAGCUCAUCUUUUUGUUGAAGAUACCCCAAUCCAUGAUUUCAACAUUGGAAUUUUUGAAAGUCCCAAGUAAUAGUAUGAAUUAUGAAAUUUCAAAAAAGCAUAUUCUUAUUUAUUGUUAAUUUCAAGCUAAUUUUAAUAGCUAUACUUACAUUUGUCUUUAGAAAAUAGAAAAUUCACUUUAAAUGUAUAAAAAUGAAUAAAGAAAACUCAUCUUCAUUUCUGACAGAAAAUAAGAAAUAUGAAAAAAAAAACUAAAAAAGAAAGACAUAUUUUCUUGAAAGACGCUUCAAAUGAAACAAAUAUGAAAAACAUAGUUGUAGGAGUGUUCAAUUACUUUAUUGAUCGUUAACCAAAUCAAAUUAGUAUUAACUAAAUCGAAAUUAUCAUGAAAAAGUGAAAAAGUCAUAAUUUAGGGGUGGUUGAUGCAAUUAACUCAUUUCUAAUGGUGCUAAUAAUUAAGUCUGCUAUAGGGAAAGCGAAGUUAAAAUAUGACCCAAAGACUCACCUUUUUCUAAGUCGUCUCCUAUCAAAAUUGCAAAAUAAAUGGAUAGCAGUAAACCAAAUACUUUGCUACUAAACCAAGAAAACCUUAAGAGUUCAUAUUUGUGAAGGUUUCUUAACAUUUUAGUGCAACCUUGAUUUUUAUUUUUAUUUAUUUCCUUUCCCUUAUAAAGAAGAAAAGACCUUCAACUUUUUUUCUUUUUUCUUCUUCAGUUUUGCUUACUUUCUUUUGCUCCCAAAAACCAAAAACAUAUCCCUUCAAAUCCCAUUUGAUCGUCUUGAAGUAGCAAGGAUCUUCUCAGCACCUAGUCUAGUUUGAUUUUGAAGUUCCCAAGUGAGGUCAAUGUAUUUAUGUAUCCUUAAUUUCUUUAUUUUUGAUUUUUUUAUAUAUAAAUUUGUUAUAUAUUUCUUCAUCUAAUAUUAUAUUUUUAUGUUUUGCUUGAACUAAAUCAGAGCAAAAUAGACUGUUUGGAUUUGCUCUUUUUUUUCACACUCAAAUUCUUGGAAUCAUUGCUUCAUUUUGAAGGGGUAAGUGGGUAUGUUUAUUAUGUUUUCCAUCAUUAUAUGCAUAAUAUUAAAUGGAUGGGGCCAUUACCAACAUCAAUAAUUUAGAUCCCGAUUUUGUAUAAAAUUAUUAAAAAAAACUCACAAUUAUUUAUAAAUAGAAAAAUGUAUAUAAAAAUUCUAGAAAAAUAAAAUCUUGAAUAUGUUGUUUCAUAACUAAAUUGUAUGAAAAAUAAAGAAAAUCAUCAUACAAUAACAUCCGAUAACAAAUUAAAAUAAAAACAAAACGAUUAUUAUAUGUUUCCUGAAUAUUUCUCGAAACCAAAUUAGUAGUAUUAUCAAGUUGAGUUUCAUGCCCUUGAAGAACAUCUAGAACUGAUAUUACAAAAACUUAUGAAAUUGACCUUGAUGCCAUAUUUUUAGUCAAAAUAAUACAAAAUAUACCAUAAAUUUUCUUUUCCAAACUCAAUUCGAAAUUUCAUUACAUUAGAAAUUAUAUUCAGAAUUUUAUCUUUUCUUAUAAAGUAAAAGCUAUGUCAAGUAACUGAAGAUGUAAAAAACAAAUGAAUUUGCUUAAUAUUUUUUCUAUGUUUGUUUUUAAAGAAUGAGUAUUGAAGUAAUAGAUAAUAUAGAGAAAUUUUCUUCCUUUUUUUCUGUGUCAGGACUCGGGUCUUUAAAGUUCCUCAAUCAUUUUCUUCUUUCUUUUCAGAAUCAGAUUUGCUUUUUUUGCUUGAAUCUUGACUUUAUAGUCAAUUUGGUGGGUAAGGUUUCUUGAAGCUUUAAGGUUGUAUGGUCGUGGCUAGCGCCAAAUAAAAGGUAAGUGCACAAUAAGUUUUUAUAAUUUUCUUUUUCAAACUCAAUUCAAAAUUCCAUUACAUUUUAUUUUUUUUUCAAAACCCAAAUUGUAAAAUGAAAAUAUAUUCAGAAUUUUAUCUUUUCUUAUAAUGUAAAAGCUUUGUCAAGUAAUUGAUGAGGUAAAAAAGCAUAGAGCAAAUAAAUUUGCUUCAUAGUUUUUUCUAUCUGUUUGUUUUAAAAUAAUGAGUGUUGAAUAUUUCAAUAUAGAUAAUAUAGAGAAAUUUUGCAGGGUUUAAAAAUAAUUAUCCCUAAUUUUCUCACUUUAUUUAUUUUUAAAAUUUUUAUUUUACUUUUAUUUAUUUUUUAAUUUUAUAAUGUUCCAAAAUUUUAAAAAUAAUUUCAACUUUUUAUCAUUUUAUAUAUUAUCAAAAUGAAAAUUCACCGAAAGUAUAAAAAUUUAGGACUAAAAUUUUUAUUAAAUCAUUUAAAAAGUUCCACUUAACAGUUGAGUGACAAAAAAAAAAUAAUUUCAACAGCAUUAGUGGUGAAAUUGUAACUUUUUUAAUUGAGUGAUUAAAAAAAUAUUAGCAAUAGUUUAGUGACUAAUAAUGUAACUUUUUUUUUGGUACAAUGAUAAUUCGAAAUUUGGCUAUUCCUAAAAAGGGUGAACAUCCGAUCAUAUUUAUUCACAUAUUACAAACAUCCAUAUGUAAGCAAUUCUCCCAAAUUGAAAUCAAAUUUUAAUAUCAACAACUUCAACAACUCAUAAAUAGGAAGAUAAUAUGUUUCGGUACACUUGAAACAAUAUCCUUCUACAUUGACAACAAUUACUAUGACAAUGAAGCUAAGACUCAAUUCACAAUACCUAUAUAUUUUUGUUAUACCUAAUACAAGUCAUUUACCAGUAUAUUAGACAUUCUUAUACCCUACUUUCCUAUACUUUCCCAUUAUUAUCUUGAUGAUGAUGAUGAUGGUCUUACAAUUCAGCACUAAGAUCACUGUAAUACUUGUUUUAAUUAGUAUAAUAAUAAUUUUAGUCUUUUUUUAUAUUUUCUAUCAAUUUGACUCUGAUUUUGUAUAAAAUUAUUUAAAAAAAACUCAAAAUUUUAAAAAUAGAAAAAUGUUUAUAAAAUUUCUAGAAAAAUAAAAUCCUGAAUAUGUUGUUGAAUAACUAAAUUGUACGAGAAAUAAAGCAAAUCACCAUUCAAUAAAAUCUGAUAACAAAUUGAAAACAGAACAAAACCAAAAAAAGCUUCAUCAAUGUUUCUUGAAACCAAAUUAGUAAUAUUAUCAAGUUGAGUUUCAUCCCCUUGAAGAACAACUAGAACUCAUAUUACCAAGGCUUAUGAAAUUGACGCUAAUGCUAUUUUUUAGUCAAGAUAUAUAACAAAAUUUCCUUUUUCAAACUUAAUUCAAUUUUUCAUUACAUUUAAAUUAUUUUUCAAAACUCAAAUUAUAAAAAUAAAUUAUAUUUAGAAAAAAAAUUUAUAACAUAAAAGCUAUGUCAAGGAACAGAGAACAAAUAAUUUUACUUAAUGUUUUUUCUACGUUUUUUACUAAAGAAUGUGUAUUGGAUACUUCGAUACAAAUAACAUAGAGAAAUUUUGUAGGGCCCAAAAAUAAUUAUCUCUCAUUUUCUCACUUUAUUUAUUUUUGAAAUUUUUAUCUAAUUUUAUUUAAUUUUUUAUUUUAUAAUGUUCUAAAAUUUUAAAAAUAAUUUUAAUUUUUUUACAUUUUAUAUAUUUUCAAGAUCAGAUUGACUGAAAGUAUAAAAUUUGAGGAUUAAAAUUGUUAUUAUAUCGAUUAAAAAAGUAUCACUUAACAUUUGAGUGACAAAAAAAAAACAAUUUCAAAAGCAUUAGUGAUGAAAUUGUAACUUUUUUAAUUAAGUGACCAAAACAAAAAUACCCAUAGUUUAGUGACUAAUAGUGUAGUCUUUUUUUGGUAAAAUGAAAAUUUGACCCUGAUUUUGUAUAAAAAAAACUCAAAAUUAUUUAUAAAAUAGAAAAAUGUAUAUUAUUCAACAUAGUGAUUUUUUACCCAAAUCAUAUAAAAAAUAAUUAAUUAUGAAAAUGGUAUGGAAAAUAAAUUAAUUACAAAAAUAAGGCAUUUGGUACAAUGUUUUGCUGGUGUUGCCUGACAUAUUGGUAGCACUAAAUUAAAAUGUGAUGACCUAAAAAUAUUCAAGGACUUAAUGUAACGCCCAAAAUUUUAAUUUUGGGUAUUGUGAUUGUGUAACAUAAAUAUCUAUCAACUUUAGUGGUUAUGUGUUCUGAAAGUCUUUGAGAGGUCCUAAGUUUAAGUCAAGAUUUGGGCAAAUUUUAAUAUGUAAAUUUCAAAAAUAUUCAAAGACUUGAUAUGUAAAUCUCUCAUUUUGAUUGGCUGUUGAAAAUAAACUCUAAAGAUGUUGUGUGACAGUGUGGUGGCACAAAAUCUUAAAUAGGCUCUAAAGAUUGUUUAUUAUUAUUUUUUAUCCCCUUCAACACCAAAAUUACAAAGGUUUCCUACCUAUUAAUCAAGUUCAAAUUAUGUAUAGCAUAACCGUUAACAUUGUUGAUAGUAAUUUUCUUUGGCUCAUAUAUAUAUAUAUAAUAAAAUUUUUCUAAAAUUUUUAUAAUUAUAAUUUAUACAAUACCGUAAAUUAAAUUGAUAAUAAGAAUAAUUAUAAUGCUAUCUGUAAUGGCAGACAGCAAAGAAAAAGGCUAAAAGAAACAGUAAUAAAAAUAGGAUUCCUUACUAAUAAUUCUGCCUCUGUGGAUCCUACCAGAGACUUCAUAAUUUCCCUGUUUUUAUCUUCACUUUCUUCUUACUUCUUCUUCACUGCUUUUAAUUUGUUUCGAUGUCCAAGGUCUAUCACCAAUUUUCAAGCAUCCAGUCAACGUAAUUUUCUUUCAUUUGCUUAAUUCAUCACAUGCUUUUCUUUGCUUUUGAUUAUCUGCUACUGUUAUGGCAGCUAGCUUUGUAAGAUUGUCAAGGAACUCAACUUCACUGCUUCCUUCUCAGUUCUAAUCUCUCAACACUUUUCAGCCACUAAGUCAGGUAAUAUGAUCUGAAGCAAUGAUUUCCUCUACUAAUUAUCAACAGUUUUAGAUUUUAAGAGUGGAUGACCAGCAGACAUAAUCUACUAUAGAUAGAAAUUAAUACAAAAACAGCUACCCAGAAGCAAUAUAAUGUUGAAAUCUCAAACUGUCAACAUUUUAACUCUUAAUAUUCUGUAAUGAACUCUUGCACACUUGAAUCUAGCAUUUUAUAUACAUCGAGAGCUUGAUUCUGGUGACCAGAACUUCAUCAUGUUUCUGUCUGCCACCCAUCCAUAGCUCCAUCUAAUAGACGCCAUUGCUUGAAACUUGCAUUCAUGUUUUCCUUUUCAUGCUUACACUGACAUAUCAAUACUUCAUAAAAUAUCCAAUUCAUUCACAGAUUUUCAUUCUCUGCUACUGUUAUAUAUGAUUGCAUUGCAGGGACAUAGCAAUGGAGUACGUAGAGCCUGUUGUCAGCAUUGCAAAUUGUCUCGGAAUUCCUGUUUGUGAAUAUUUACAAUAUCACAGAAAGCUGAACGAUUAUGUGAGAAAAUUCAAGACGAUCAGAGAUGAAUUGAAUUGCAAAAUGUUAGAUAUAGAGCUGCAAUUGAAUGCAGAGCUUCUUCGUCCUCUGGGGAAGAUACCGAAGAAGGGAGUUGAAAAUUGGUUGAAAGCUGUGAAAGAGAUGAUUAGGGAAGCACAAGUUGUUGAAAACAAAGUCAGUAACGGGAGAUAUUUCUGUCGUGCUUGCAACGGGAAGCUUGUUGAUGAAAAGACUCGAGAAAUGAAGGAAUUUCUUGAUAACGCUCCUAAUGCCUCUGAAGGUCUUGCCAUGGAUGGCCCAAGUGCUAGGUUGCUACUGCCAACAUCAGAACUAGUUGGAGAAGAUAUUGGUGUAAGACGCAGUAGCAAGCUGCUUUGCACUUGCUUGGACAACAAGUGUCGAGCCUUGCUGAAGAAACUAUCGAAGAAGAAGAAGAAGAAAGUUUUGCAAUGGAAAAACAGAAAAGAAAGAGAUCAUUUUGAAUGAAAAUGAGCUGAAUUUUUUCAUUAACAUUACAAAAGGCAUAAAAGCCAUUACAUAUAGGAGUUAACAAUCUUAAAACAAACAAGUUACUACCUAAACUCAUACCUAACACCACUAGUUUACCUGGUAACUUGAUAAACUUGCUUGAGUAUCAUAACAAGCUACCUAAACUUGUUUUAUUUUAUAAAUUUUUAUUAGUUACUGAUUGAUUGAAAUAUUGUGUGAAAAUAUGGAUAAAAAAAUUUUAAUGCUUUAGUGCUUAAUUGAAUUUUUAGGACUAAAUUGAGAAAAAUGCAAAGUGUGUCUAAUUAGUGAUUAAAUGACUUAAUUGAAUUAUUGCAUGAAAUUGGAAGUUUUUAUGUGGCAAUUAGACCAUGAAUUAGUGUUAUGGACACAAAAGGGUAUUUCUAGAAAAAUAUCUAAGUAAUGGGUCAAGGGCAUUUUUGUCCAAAUUGAAUAAAAGACAAAAUAAAGAUGAAAACAAGUGUUCAUCUUCUUAAAAUCAGACGUUUGCUGCCAAAAAAAUUCAUGUCACCAUAGCUAGGGUUCUUGAACUUUCUAAGCUCAAUUGUAAGUGAUUUCUUGCCCCGUUUUUAAUUAUUUUCGUAUUUUUAUGCUUAUUGAAGCUUGAAUUUCAUGUUUCUACCAUUUAAUUUAAAUGAAAUUAAAGUUUAAAAAUUGAUCCAUUCAUGAUAUAAUUGUAAAUUGAUUAGUGAUGUUAGAUAAUGAAUGUUUGAAGUGUUAAUUACAAGUUUUACUAGAUGAAUUUUGAUGAAAAUGUUGAAAAAGGGCUAAAUUGUGAAAGAUGGUAAAGUAUGCAUAAAGUUGUGAUUUUGUGAAAUUGAGGGCUGUUAUGAGCAUGAAAUAUGAUUUAGUGAAGUUUGAAAUUUAAAAAUUUAGUGAAUUUUAUUUUUACGAGCUUAGGGACAAAAGUGGAAUUUUUGAAAAGUUUCGGGGAAAAAUGUAAAUUUGCCAAAAUGUUGUGUAUGAAUUGUAUUUGAAUGAAAUGUUGAUAAAAUGUAUUAAAUUGUGUUAAUAUAGAUCAAGAAAGAAGAAAUAGUGGAAAUGAUCGGGGAAAAGAGAAAGUUAUCGACUAAAUUACAAAAAUAGUCGUUUUGCAUCCGAGGUAAGUUACGUGUAAAUAAUAGUUAUAUUUUUAUAAAUUAUGAAUUAUAUUUGAUAUGUGAAUUAAUAUUCAACGUGGAACGAAAAUUAUUCAUGAAUUAUUCAAGUGUUAAAGUGUUAAAAAUAAAGUGUUAAGUGUAAAUUCCCGGUUGAACUUAGGAAUAGAAGUGGAUACAAGUGACAUGUCACUAGAGAUCAGUGUUACAGUGUUACAGUGAGUCCCGGGUGCUGGGUGAUCUAGCAUGUGUUGCAGACACCUGACAGCUUGUGUGAGCAGGCCCGUGGACAUUUCCAGUGUUAUUGAUCAGUGGUAGCUUCGGCUACGUUUCAGUGGUAGCUUCGGCUACAUAACAGUGGUAGCUUCGGCUACAUAUCAGUGUUGCACUUAUGUGCUAAAUCUCUACGUAUCUGUGUAUAUUCCGAGUGUUCAACGGGAUUAAUAAUGAGUUAAAGUGAAUAUGAAAUGAAGUGUGUAUGCAGGUACAUUUGAAAAGAAUGAGCAUAAGUGAUAAAGGUUAAGUGUGAAAAUGUAUAUGCAAGUGAAUUUGGUAAGAUUGUGCAUGUGUAAGUGAUUGAAAUUGCUAAGAAAUGUUUUGAUUAGUUAUAUGUUAAAAGUGUUAAUUAUUAAAUGAGUAAUUAUUGUUUACAUGUAACUUACUAAGCUAUUAGUAGCUUACACCUUCCUUCUUUUCCUUUGUUUUAUAGUGAUUUGAACUUGAUCGAAUUGGGGAUCGUCGGAGCUCGUAUCACACUAUCAUAAUCAUCUCGGUAUUGUGUGAUUUUCAAAAUAUUUAAAACUAUGGCAUGUAUAGAGUCUUAAUCAUUUUGAGUAUGUUCAUAUGAUAUGGCUAAGAUUAGCUAUUGAAAUGGUUAGUAAAGAUUAUGUUUUGGUAUUAUGUAUGUGUAAAUGGUAACUAAUUCAAAGAAGCAGUUUCUUUGACAGCAGUAGUGACGUGAAUGUAAAAAUUCACCAUAAAUAGUAGAAAUGGAAUUAGAGAGUGAAUUAUAUAUGGAAUUAAAGCUUAUCAAGUCUAUUUUUAUAUGAAAGAAACGGUGUAGGCAAAGGAAUUCUGUAUUUUGAGAUAUUUUAAUUUUAGUGAGACAGGGUCAGAAUGGUUUUUGAAGUCCCCUGUUUUGACUUUAGAAAAUCACUAUAAAUUGUACAGAAAUAAUUAUAGGUCAUAAUUUAUAUGUGUAGAUUCCUUAGUGAGUCUAUUUUCAAAAUAAAUAAACAGUAACCUUAUAUGAAUUCUGUCCAAUGAUAUAAUUGAUUUCUAGUGCCAAGAGGUCAGACCUGUCGAGCAGUGAAACAGGGGAUACUUUAAUGAAUAAACUGUACUAAUUGGCUAAGUCAAAAAUUCUUAAAAUUUUAUGGUAAGUAUUAAUAUGAGUCUAGUUUCAUGGAAAAUUUACAGAUUUAAAUUUCGAGUCUCGUAACUCGAGUUAUAAUUAAAUUAGUGACAGUUGCGCAGGUAGACAGUUUUGCUGUGAGUAGUGAAUUUAAUUUUAAAAGCAAAUUUUUAUGCUCCGAAUUGGUAAGUUAAAUUGGAUGACAUCUCGUACUCGAUUCCGGCAACGGUCUCGGGUAAGGGGUGUUACAAGUUUGGCGUUGUGUACAAGGGUAAACUACAAAAAUAGUCACUUUUUGUUUACAUCAGGUUACAUUUUAGUCAUUUAUGUUUAAAAUAUUACAUUUUAGUCACUUAUGUUAUUAUUUUGUUACGAAGUGAUCACUCUUCCGUUAAGUUCUGUUAUCUCACUAACGAUAAUCUUACGUGGCAGUCCAACUAGAUUUUAAGUGCCAACUUAAAUUUUCUAAUGGAAUGAGAAUAAAUUUUUUAAUUAAAUAAAUUUAAUUAAUUAAAAAUUUUAAACUCUAAAUCUUAGUUAAAAAAAAUUCAUCUCCCCCUUUUUUUAGUUUUCUUUUUCAGUAUACCCUUCCUCGGAACUAUUGUGACUGUGUUCCUCCUCAUGCCCGGUUGUUUCAGAUGUUAAAAAAAUCAGAACUUAAACUACUUUCCCUACCCUUGUCUUCAAGCAACUCGGCAAAUAUUCCCAUUUGAACCCCAUUCUCACUAAAGCUUUCAUUUUUCUCUUUAAUGAGUCCUCCUUUCUCAACCAAACCCUCCAUUUCAAUUUGCUGUUCUUCAAAAGGACCAGGUGAAGGACAAAACACAGAGUGAUUUACUAUCAUACCACUAUACUCUAACCUCUGUGAGCAACACACAUUGGACUCCAUAGCUUUGUAACACAAGCUUCUAAAAGAUUUUGAAACCCAAAAGCUCUUAGCUUUUAGCUUUGGCGCAGGCAUUCAAAGCUUCAACUGGUGAUAUUGUUGUUGUUGCUGCUGUUUGGUAGAGCUAUUUACUCUUGGUUGGUGAAAGCUCCUCCAUCCAUAAGGUCGCCAACAUGUCUACUUCAAUGGGUUAAAGUGGAAGCAAAAAAAAAAAAAAAAAUGCAGAGAAAUUUGGUGUGGGGUUUUCCUUCUUUUUCCUUUUAUCUUUUUUAUGUUACAGAAAAAAGGCAGAAGCUUUAUGUUCUUAAAUAUAUGGAGUCAAGCUAUUGAUGAUUACUGAGGCCUGCUCAAAGACAUGACUGCUUUCUUAGUCAACCGAAAAAUAAAACUUAAAAAAAAAAGAGAUGAACUGUUUUUUAAUUAAGAUUUAGGGUUUAAAAUUUUUAAUUAAUUAAAUUUAUUUAAUUAAAAAUCUAUUCUUAUCCUAUUAGGAAAUUUAAGUUGACACUUAAAAUCUAGUUGGACUGCCACGUAGGAUUACCGUUAAGGAGAUAACAGAACUUAACGGAAGAGUGAUCACUUCGUAACAAAAUAAUAACAUAAAUGACUAAAACGUAACAUUUCAAACAUAGGUGACUAAAAUGUAACCUGAGGCAAACAAAAGUGACUAUUUUUAUAGUUUACCUUUGUGUACAAUGGUACGGCUCUGGUAAAAGUGAGAAUUCUGAAAUUUUGAGAAAGAAAGUAAUUAAAACGAUUCGUUAGUAACAUCAUGCACAGAAAUAUUGGAAGUAGACAUAAUAUGUAUCAUUUAAUAUCUUAAGUGACACUAGUUAUUCAUGCAUAAAUGAAAAUGUUCCGACAUGGUCAAGUAUAUAUACGAAACAGAUAUCUUAAGAGUUGAAGCAAAGAAAAGGCGAUACCCCCUGAUCACUUUGUUUCCUCAGCUCCCGAAUGUUUUCAAAAGCUUUGUCCCUCUUCAGGGUCACAGCUUUCAGCUCAUUUUGUAAAGACUCGAUUUUAGUUUCAGUUUCAUCCAAUUUAUCUUUAAUUUGCUUUUUUUUGGACCAGACUGCAUGCUGCUCCUUCCUUACUCCAUUCAAAUCGACACCCAUAAGCUACAAUAAACAAAUAUAGCUCUUUUUUUUUUUUUAGUGUAACACAAUGGUGCUCUAUAUUCACAGAUAAGAAGAGGAGCAAACUCCAAUGGAUAAAGGCAGAAAAUAGAAUCAUCUUACUUUAACUUGAUCUUGAAUGUCUUCUUUCUGGCCUAAUGAAUCUUGAAUCUUUGUUCUCAUUGCAGCAUUAGCAAUAACUUUCUCACGGGUUCCCUCCAGGUGUUUGAUUUCUUUAAGGAUUCGCUUCUCCUCACUCAACGAGAUGCUUUCGUGCUGAAUGCGAUAUUGCAAGCUGUGAAUCUGCAAUUCAUAAAUUCCAUUGAAGUGACUAAAGGAGAAAAAGAAAAGCAUUAACUGCGGCAGAAAACAAUGAAUAAAUCUAAAUGCAGUCAAAGUUUAUAGAAGUAUCAUACAAUAAAAUCGAGCUCUUCCUCAGAUGCACAUAAACUAUGUCGAUUAUAAACAUCUUUAUUAUUGUGAAGCUUGCCUAAAGCCUGCUGCAGUGGUUCUAUUUCCUUUUUUUUCUCAUCUAAAAUCGUCUUAAAUUGCUCAAAAUCAACAUUCAGCGCUCUCACUUGCGAAAGCAUCUCUGAUCGUUCUGCCUGCAUUAGCAUAAAGAUAAUCACUAUUUAGCCAACUGACAGCGCCAUUAUUCUUUACUUCUUUCACAUUUUUUCUCAAAUUCUGAAGGCAAACAUAACAUUAAUGAAUCAUUAUACCAAUAGCAUAUCUGUAAGUGUCAUUACAUUUCAAGGACAUAAAUUUCGAACAUUCAAAUAAAUGCUUCCGGGUUUAAUUCCCCUACAUUCAUCAUAUUACAAUAAGCACACCAUAAUGACAUAAUGAUAGGGCUAAUAAUUAUCUUAAAAGUAUGACAAUUAAUGGCUAUCAUGCUAUACAUCUAAUUGAAAUUAAUAACUUUUCACUCACCCUUUUUGCUUUUAAUUCAUCGGUAAGCUUAAACCUGGCUUUAUUCCACUUUUGCAUCUCUUUAUCAGCCUGAUCAAGUUUGGCUUUUAUAGCCUGAUCUUCGUAGAAGCGAUACCUAAUAAAAUGAAAAGAGUGGAUCUGCUUAGGUGCAGGCCACUCGACGACCGCAUCCUUCGGAAAGUCGGGAUCGGAUGCACCAUUCUGUUCUUCCUUAUCAGGUUCCUCACUAUGUGAAUCAACUUCAAUGGGGUUAUUAUAAACUGGAUCCUUUUCCAGUUUCCCAUUUUCAUGAAGAAAUGAUUUGUCUACUUCAGUCACUUUAUCAAUAGACAAUUGUGCCAGGUCUAAAUCAACAACCUCAACACCCACUAAACAUAAAAUUGAGCUACCUGAAAACAUCCAAAAACAAAGAUUAUGAUACCAUAUAACAACAAAUAUAAAUAUAAAAUAUUAUUUCAUUCAUAAAAUAAAAAUUUUAAAACCAGACACCUGAUAGACAUGUAUAAAACAAUAUAUAUUAAAUAAAUAAAUUUUAAAGAACAGUAUAGCCAAUACAAUUUGAAAUGGUGCAAUCUAAAGCCAUUCCUUUAGCUAGUUUUCUCAUUAAUCAGAUCAAAAGAGUGAACAAACAGUAGAAUUGCAAAAUUAUAUGUAUAUAUUCUAAAUAAAUGAUAAACUAUAAUGGAGAAAAACAAUAAUCAGAUAAAAUCUAGAUCAAAAACUAAAUUAUAAGUACAUUAGCUCAUGCUAUAACAAAAGAUCAAGCCUUUAUCCGUCAAGAAAAUUAACAUGCAAAAUCAUAUGACACUAAUGGAAAAGACUCGGAAAUUUACAAACAUGAGAUAAAUGAAAAACAAAAAAACCCCAGAAAUAAAAACAUGAGAAAUAAUUAUGUAGUUUGCAAGGCUAGAAAGUUUACAUUUUUAAAAAGAAAAAGUCAAAAUAAGAUGUUAUUGUUGUCGAGAGAGGCAUAGAUACAGAGAUUCUGGAUAAAAAAAAACUUUCUAACUUUUUUAUUUUAUAUUCGCGUAAUGCCCCAAAUUUUAUAAAUUUUAGGUGUUAAACAUGUCAAGUAAUUUGAUUUGGUGUGGUGAUUAAGUGUAUUGAAUGUUUGCUUUGGGUCUUGAGUUCAAUUUUUUUGUUAAAUUUGUCUUAUUUAUUAUGGUAUUUGUUAAAUUUUUCCUAUUUAUUAUGGUAUUAUGUUCAACUUGAGCCUUAAGUCUUAUCCCUUAUUUUCAACGAUGAAUCUACUGAUUCAAUGGUAAGACUUUAGCUUAUCACCAAUUUAAAUUUUAUAAAAUCUGAUAAGUGAGAUUUAAAUUAACUUAAAUCUUUUUAUUUAUUUAUUUUUAUUUAAUUUUACUAAAUCUCUAUUUUCACUUAUUGUUUCAACCGUCCACACUCUCACCCCACUCUGUACGCUACUUUCUUUUGUUUCCCUAUUCUACGGUUUUAUCUUCUUUUCUCUUCCUUCUUUCUCCUCUUUUGAUUAUUCCUGAAUACUACCAUUUAUUUUGUGAGUUUUGUCACUUGGAUCGUAUUCUGUUUGCAGUGUAAGUUUCAUUUGGUUACUUUUGUUCUCUUCCCAUUAAUAGUUUAGUUUUAUUUCGUUUCUUGAACAAGUUAAGUUUAUGUUGGUAUUUUCUGUUCAUUAUCAUGAUUAGUAUUUUUGUGGUUCUCGAUUAGGCAAAAGGUGUGAGAAUCCUAACCCUCUAGCAAAGUAGUCACAAUUUUCGACGUUGUUUUGGAGAACUAAGUAUUCGUAUUCUAUUUUAGGGGUUGAAAUUUUGAUUCAACGAUGUUAUUUUGGAUAAGUAUUGUUAGUUCAUCCGUGUGGUUUGACGAACGUUUAUAGGAUUCGUGAGUUCCAAUUGAGCGGUUGAUCAAAUCAGCAAUAGGUGUAUGAAAUUAACCUAAAAACUCAAUCGAAACUCGAGAAAAUUAAGGGCCACACGACUAUGUGGGUAUUUUGGCCAAUUUUAAGCCCCAAUUAGGGGCCGAUUAAAGGACUGAAAUAUUGGGUCCAUAGCCAUCAUAUAAGCCCAAAAAAUGUAAGUUUUAGUACGUAUAUAUACAUGGCUAAGCUUAGAGGUAUGUUAAGUAGGUUGUAUAUAAAUCAUAUGCAAUGUUAUGUUCCUUAUAAAAAUAUGUGUAUGCUUGUCAUACGACUUAUGAUAUAAGUAUUUAUGAUAUUAUAAUUAUGAUUAUGCAUGUCAUAUAUGAUUGUUGUCAUGAUAUACAAGCAUUUAAUUAAUAUUUUAAAGUUUUAAAAAAAUAAUAAAUGUUUUUAAAUAAUUUUAAAAUUUUAAAAAUAAGUUAUAUAUAUUUUUAAAACCUUAAAAAUUAUUUAAAAACUAAUGUAUCAUCCAUAAUAAAUCAUACAUCAUUAACACAUACUGGGGCAUGGGAAAGCUUUUAAAAACUGAACUCAAAAAGUGGUCUACAUGGUUCAUCAAGGCAUGGCAAGUAAGUGAGUUGAAGCAAUUUGUGUCAUGAUUGCCUGUAUUUCUCUCAUAAUUUCUUUGCCACUCUGCACCCGUGAGACACUGCAAAAUGUCCUACAUUUCAAAUAAACUGAUGUCAGGUAAAACAUUAAAGCAGAAGAGGAUCAACUAUUACCCUCACUAUCUAUUUCAAUGCUAAAUUUCCACCUCUCCUCUCCAACACCUCAUUGGUAGCCUUACUCAUCUUAACCAACACAACCCUUUCUUUUUCCAAUACAUUUCCAGAAUGUACACUUUUAUUAGAAGAAAAUAUCCAAAAACAUUUUACCAGAAAGCUGGGCUGUGGGGUUGGAAAUGAAGGAUUUUACACCUUCAUCUUGGGGAAGCCCAUAUUUCUUCACUUUGGCAAAACUCUCUUCUGGGUCGAUUCUACAAAAUAUUUAUUAGCUCAUUUUGUGAAAGAGGUAAUUGUGAGAUGAUUGAUCAUUUUGUUUCUACAUUAUAAGAAAAAACUGUAAUAUAUAUCAUGAACUUGAGUUGUCAUAUUCUAAUAUUUCUUUGCUCAAUAUUUACUUGAUUGUAUACAUUAGAUUUGCACCCGAAGCAAUAGUUUUAGAACACUUACAGUAAUAGUUUUAGUCUUUCAACUUCAUCAACUAAUUUUUCAAAGUUAUGUGUAUUGAUUGCGGUCGUAAACCAACUAAAAAUCUGAUUAAGGUAAAUGUACUUAUCAAUUAAUAGUAUAGUUACGAUGAACAAAGAUAUCAUUCCCACAAGGGCUAAAAGUAUUAGUAAUUAUUGUCUUUCUAUUAUUUAACCGACAAAUUGGAAUGAUUGAUUAAAACUAAAAUUAACUAAAUAAAUUAACUAAAGAACACGGCAAAGAACAAAUCAGAAAAAUAAAUGAUUAACAACCAAAAAGCGAGACAAUACUCGGGAAAGAAUCCACCUAGACUUCAUCUGUCAUUAUCAAUCUAAAUCACACAAUUUCUUCACUUACUAUCUUGAUCCGUAGAAAUCCCUAAAUUAUUGUAAUAUCUCUCUUCAAGACUAAGAGUAACUGACUCUAGAUUGAUUAAUUGAAAUUUCUUUCUAAUUAAAACCUCUAUUAUCACAUUAACUUGAUUUAUGGAUUAUUCUAUUAGAUUUGACUCUAAUCCGGUAGAAUUAUGUAAUCCUAUUUUUAGGAUUGCAUGCAACUCCACUCAAUUACGCUAGAUCUACUCUUAAACAGGGUCUACUCCUCCUCUGAUUUAAGCACAUAAAACAUGAAUCAAUAGUCUAAAAAAAUUAAACUAUGAAUUAAGCACACAUAAAUGAGAACAAGAUCUAAGUAUUUAUUCCGUAAAAAUAGAAAUCAAAUAAUAGAAUUCAUCCUAAGGUUUAUCUCCCUAGGUAUUUGGAAAAUUAGUACAUAUAGUAAAUAAAAACAUCCCAAAAAUAGUAUAACCAUAAGAAAUAAAGAAACUCAUAAUAAACUUCAAAAAAAUCAAAAGGAGAACUUCAAUAUUGAUGGAAAUCUACUUCAAAGUCGGCUUUAAUAGUAUUUUCUGAGUUGCUUUCUUCAAUAUAUGACAACUCACUGAUCCCCUCCUCUUAUCUUUGUCAUAUAUAUUUUAGAAUGCUCAAAAAACUUAAAAAUUACGCUUUUUGCGUGUUUAGAGUGCAAUUUACGAUUUCCACAUGGUCUAGCACAUGGUCGUUUUGUAAUGACCCAAAAUUCACGGGCAUCGGAAAAGUAUAAUAUCAGGUCUCUGUCUUAGUAAAUUGAGUUUGAAAAUAAUUAUUAGAAAUAUUUACUAGACUAGUUGUGUGUUUAAUUAGGAUUUAGAUAGGUGAAUUUAGCUUAAUUAAGAGUAAUUAGCAAAAAAGAUUAAAUUACAAUAGAAGUGAAAGUUUAAUUAUAGAUUAAAAUAAAAUAAAGGGGAUUAAACAGGAAAUUAUGCCAAUUGCCAAAUUUGAGGCGGCAUUGUUAAAAUAUGUUAUUAAAUUAUUAUUAUUAUUAUUAUUAUAUUAUGAAAUAAAUAAGAUGGUGACAAAUGUAUGGCAAUAAAAUUAGUACAUGUGUAAAACAUGUAUUUAAACACUUGUAUUAUAAUGAUAUAUUUUCUUAAAUUUUAAGUAAAGGUAUUGUCGAAACCAUUUUUUUUUGAAAACAAAAAUUUAGUUGUAGACUUUAAAAACAAAAAUUAGAGUCCCCACCGAUCUUUUAUUAAGGUGCGAUCGGCUCACCGUAAAAUUUUAGUCUACGAAGUCUUAGAAAAACAGGUUCGGGAGUCAAUUACGCACGAGGAAGGGUUAGUGCCCUCGUAACGCCUAAAAUCGGUACCAAAUUAAUUAUUUUAUGUCUUGGUGUCGAAAAUUUGAAAAGAUUUUAAAAGAAAACUUUUUUACUCGAGAAUGAAUUAAAAUAAUACAAACAUUCCUAUUUUAAAGAAACAAAAUAUCACACCCAGUUAGUUAGGGCACAAUAUUUUUAAAUUUUCAAAAUUAAGUUUGUCUUUUGAUUUUAAAACUCACACGGUUAAAUCUAAGAAGGGUAUUCGAUUAUUUAGAUCAAAUAAAGAAAAAUCGAAACCUAGUAAGCUAGGGCACAAUUUCUCAAAAUUUCAAAUACAGAAUAGCACCUUUUGUUUUAAAAAAUCUUAUUUCGAGAAGUCAAAAUAUCAGGACCAGUAAGUUAGGACCCGUAAUUUUAGAUUCCCGGGAACAAGCCUUUAUUUGAAAUUUGUGUGAAUUUAUUGCAAAAUAAAUACUCGACUUUCUAAAUUCGUCGAAAAAUAAUCGCGAUCCAGUAAGUUAGGACACGAUCUUUCUCGAGAAUCAUGAAUGCCAAAUAUUUUGAAAAUUUAUAAAUUAUGAUGAUUUUUAAUGCUUUGAUAAAGCCAAAAUAUAUUUUUCUUUAAAAGUAUGAUAAAAUGUUAAUGCAUAACAUGAAAUCAUUACUUUAAUUUAAAAUAUACCUAUAUAUGUAUACAAAAAUUAUAAAAAGAACAUAAUCAUAAAAUAUAUAAAGUUGACAUAAAAAUAAAAAUGUAAGCAUAAUAUAUUAAUAAUUACGAAAAUAUGGGUAUAUAUGUAUAUAUAAAAAUAUAUGAAAAAUGUAUUUAUAAAAGUUUUGAAUAGUAUAUGAAUAUAUUAUAAAAAAAACAUGUAUAAACAUAUAUAGAUUAUAAAAUAUGGAAAGCAUAAAUAUAAAAUAAAAAUGUAUAUACGAAUAAAUAUAUGUAUAUAUAUAUAAAAUAAUAAUAAAGUAUAUAAAAUGUAUAUGAAUUUAAAAAUGUUUAAAAUAUAAAUAUUAAUAUUAUCAUACAUAUCCGCAUAUAAUGUAGGUAUAAUAAUAAUUAUAUAAUAUAAUAAUAAUAAAUACUAAUAAUAAUACAGUAAUAAUAACAAUUUAACAGUAUAUAAAAAAAUUAAAAAUAACAAAUUAAGGAUUAAAUAGAAUUUAAAGGCUAAAUUUGAAAAUUGAAAACGUGAAAAAGAGCAAAUUAAAACGCGCAUAACAGGAGGAGGAUCUAAGAAGAAAUUUACCCAAACCUCCUGAAACGCUGCGCAGCAUUGGAUUAAAUUGUAGCAAAAGUAAUGUUUCAGGGAAAAAUUUAAAAAUAGCAGAACAGUAAUUUUGAAAUGAUGAAAACAUGAAGGGACUAAAUAAUAAAUAACCCAUCAAUACUUAAAACACGCGGAUCUGAUCAGGUUUUGGGUCGGGUCACGCUGGCAUUCGGGUUAUACCAAUACGCUGCCGUUUUGGGCCCUAUAAAAUCCCAUUUUAAAAACCCUAAAAUCGUUUUCCUUCUGCCCUUUGAAGUUGUGUCGUAGCCUCCCCUCCUCUCAGCCAUUCAAGCCCCAUUUCCGACCAUCAACGGCGAUGUGAGGGCACUCCGACGACAGCCCAACGAUAAGUCCUCUUUCCCUUACCCCUUUUGUUUAUUUUGUCUUUUAUAAAAUACCAGAAUGAAGGGAAAAAAACAAAUAGUAAAAUAAAAAUAGCAAAAAUAAACCCAAAGAACAAACCUUCAAAAUUGUUUUUGUUAUUUCUUGUUCCUGUCUUUUUUAAUCUCUGAUUGUGUGUGUAGUCUCUUUUACAAAAUAUAUUUGGCCUUUAUAUCCAAAUCCUUACAGGAAAAACCAAAAUAAACUUUUACAAUUUUUUCCUUUUCUUUUCGGUCCCUCUCACUGUUAAUGGUUUAUUGCAGGCGAGGAGAACGUGGAAACGAGUGUUGUGCUGGGUUGCUGAACGUGCGAGCAACGACGUUGGUAGUGGGACGAUUGCUGCGGCGCUCUGCUUAGGGUUUCUGUUACCUUAGGCCAAUUGGGCCUUGUAAUUGGGUCAAGAUUGACCCAAGUUUUAAUGGGUUUGGUUGUAUUUAAUUUGGGCCCCGAGCAACAAUUGGGUAUUACAGGUAUUUAUAUAUAUUAUAUGUGAAAUUAUUAUAUUAUUAUAUUAUAUUAAUAAAAAUAUCUAUAUUAGUUAAAUGUUAAAAUAAUAAAAAGUAAAUAAUAAAAGGAAAUAAAAACAAAAGAAAAGAAAAAAGAGAGAAGGAAGAAACAGAGGCAUUCGAAACAGAGCAGGAAAAAGAAAGAAAGAAAAGAAAAAGGAAAAAUUCAAGGUUUAAGGUUUAAAGCUUUGAUUGGUAAGUCAAUUGAGCCUUUUUUAUUUAGUUUUGAUGAUUUAGAAGCUUUAAAACAAAGUUUUGAUGAAAUUAAGUUGAUAUUUUGUAAGUUCAUAGGUUUUUAAGCACGGUUCAUGUUGAAUAAAUUGUUAAAUUAGGGAUUUAAUUGAAUGAAUUUUAAGUUAGAAUUGAUAAAAGAAUUAAAUUGUAAAAGAAACUAUAAGUUUUAUGUUUUAGGGACUACAUUGAGGGAAAUUAGAAAUUAGGAAAAGAUGCUGAAAUUUUAAUAGUUACAUUUGAGUUUGGAUGAAAUUUGAAUAGAAAUAGAGUGUGAAUUGAAUUAGGAAAGUAAGUGAACUUAGUUAGGAUUAAAUUGAGAAUAAGGAAGAAAUUGAAUAGAAAUUCAAUUAUUUAUCAUAAUUAGUGCUGAAAUUAAUAGUAUAAAUUAUUAUUAUUAUUUUCGUAGCUAGCAAAGAACCAGAAGCACCGGCACAGAAGGGAAAAGAGAAGAUUUUCGAGAAGUAAACUCGAGAAAAUUGCAGUUUGUAUUACUAUAAUUCAAGUUAUUUAUUAUUAAAUGUUAAAUUUUAAUUUAUGUGUUUGGUAAAUGAAAUGUGAGGUAAGUAUUAGUAUUAUUAUUGUCAUUAUUAUUAUUAUUAUUAUUAUUAUUAUUAUUAUUAUUAUUAAGAUGAGUGAGAAUUAAAUUGAAUAGUUGAUAUGAAUUAAUAUUUGAAUUGUUUGUUGAUUGAAAGUGGGAAGUGAAUUUGAAUCGAAUUGUGAUUGAUAUUAAAUUGAAUGGAAAUGUAUUGAGUUGUGAAAAUGUGUGAAUUUGUGGAUUAAUUAUUGAUUGAAAGGUGGAAAAAUGAUUGAAUUGAAAAUGUGAGAAAUUGUGAUUGAAUUGGGGUUAUAUGUGAUUUAAAUGCCCUAUUAACUAGUUGGGCUGAGUCAGAUAUAGUUGGCAUACCAUAGGAUUGGAAGAGUUCACGGAUGCUUCGACCUCGAGUCGAUGAGACACUGGGUGUCACUAUAUUUCUUCGGAUAGAUUCGAUGAGGUACUGGGUAACAACUUUCUUCGGCUUUGCCGAUGAGACACUGGGUGUCAACUAUUGCUUCGAACUAUCCGAUGAGGCACUGGGUGCCAAUCUGGUGUGUUUGGUUGGAUCCGUGUAUCUGACAAAGUCCGAGUUUUGUUAAUAGGGGUAAAUAAUGAAAUGAUAAACCGAAUGAGUUUGGUUAAUCGAGCUACUGAAAUGAGAUGAAAAAGUUGAAUUGUGAAUUGAAAUGUGAUACGAGAUUGAAGAAUGAACCUAAGGUUCAUGAUGUGUUCAAAGCUCAAAUUGUGGAUACAUGAUAUUAAUUGAUAAUUUUUUAUUGUUGUAUUAUGAAAUUUGAGUUUAAACUUGUAUGUAUGAUUUGUGCAUGAUAUGUUUGAUGAUUAUGUUUUAUUUUUAUUAUUAUAAUUUGAAUUAUGGUAAUACCACUGAGUUCGGAUACUCAGCGUAUGGUUGUUUCCGUGUGCAGGUCGAUAGAAGUCGAAGGUUUUCUGAUUUUCGCUCCUUUUGCUUCCAAAUGCUCUUCAAAGUAUAGAAACAUGAAUUUAAAGUAUUAGGAGCAAAAAAUUCACCGUUAACACAUUUUCUCUGUAUAUUUAGCAUAUAUUCGAACUUUGAAUUUCUGCUUUGCAGUUUAUAUAGGUUCAAAAAUAUGAACCCAUGUUUUCAAAGGUCUAAUUUUUCCAUGAACUGCCAGAAAUGAAAAGAAAAAAAAUAUUUAAAAAAAUGAAAGAAAAUAAAAAUGAAAAUAUAGUUUAAUGAGACUUACAUAAAUGUCGGGAUUGAGAAAAUGAUUGUCUAAAAAGAAGCAGAAAUUUGGCUGUCCAAGCCAUCUUAUUCAGUUCACCGAUGCAAGUUUCUCCGCUUAGCCGUCGCUGCUCUGAAAAUGACGAAGGCCUAACUAGUUUAACAACAGUACCAGUACGAUGUCAUAAGAAUGUAUCCUACGUGGCAUUCGUGUCAUCUAGCUAAGUCAAACUACGAAGCUACGGUUGGACUUCGAUUUCGGUUGGGUUUGGUUUCUUAGCUGGAGUUCUAUUUAAACUUGGGUUUUGUUUUCGGUUAAAUUACCCUAUUAGUUACUAAAUUAUAUGUUGCUUUUGUUUUGUUCACUUAACUAAAAAAAAAGUUAAAAUUUUGUUAUUGAAGUAUUCGAAUACUUUCAUUUAAGUCACUAAAACAAGAUCUUUUUAAAUAAGAAAUAAAUAUUUUUUAUACAGAAAUUUUAUAUAUAAAAAAUAAAAUACUUCAAUUUAAAAGGACAUUUUGUUUAAUCACUUUAAUAGCUUUUGGAGUGAUGAAAAGUCUAAUUUCACUUUGCACCAAAAAUGAUUUUUUUGUUAAUUUUCUUACCGAGCUGGGACUCAAUUGAUGGUUGACGACAACUAAAUAAAAGGCUUUAACACAGUAUAGAUAAAAAAAGUUUUAAACUAAAAUUUUUAAAAGAAUUUAGGGCAAACUACACCAGUCAUUCAACUAUAGGUAAGUUUACGUUUUAAUCACUUAACUAAAAAAAUUACAAUUUGAUUACUAAUGCUUUCGAAAUUAUUUUUCUUUUUUGUCACCCAAUUGUUAAGUCAUACUUGUUUUAGUUGGUAUAAUAAUAAUUUUAGUCCUCGGUUUUUAUAUUUUCUGUCUAUUUGACUCUGAUUUUGUAUAAAAAUAUAAAAAAAAUCACAAUUAUUUAUAAAAUAGAAAAAUGUGUAUAAAAAUUCUAGAAAAAUAAAAUCUUGAAUAUAUUGUUUCAUAACUAAAUUGUAUGAGAAAUAAAGAAAAUCAUCAUUCAAUAACAUCCGAUAACAAAUGAAAAUCAAAACAAAACAAAAAAAAAGUUAGAUUAUUAUAUGUUUCUUAUAUUUCUCGAAACCAAAUUAGUAGUAUUAUCAAACACAUUAAGAAUGAGAUUAAAAUAUGUUACUUUUAUAGCUUAUCAUACCCCUAAACCACAACUAAAAAGUUUAAUCUGAUAUGGUGGCAUCCACCAUUAGUAAUUGACUCUCAAUUUUGGUUCUUUUUGUCUUGUUUUCUCUUUGCACUCGUUGUUUUAGAUCAUCAGAGUCUUCAUGGUGGACCCUAGAGCUUAAAGGAGGCUAAAGAUGGUGGAAUCCAAGGUAGUGUGAAACAACAUGGUCUUGACUAGAGGUGUCUAUGGGCCGGGCCCAAAAAAAAAUUUCAACUCGCUUCCUAGGCCCGGGCCCGGCCCAGCCCGAAAUAUGGGCCUGAGAUUUUGUCCAAGCCCGGCCCGGGGAAAAAUAUGGAACCUGAGCCCGGCCCGGCCCGGCCCGUCCCAUGGACACCUCUAGUCUUGACCUACAACACUAAAAUUGCUUUAGCUUAAAUGAAAAUGAAAAUAUUUUGUAUGCAUGAUAUCUCUAGUUUAAAUCUUAUUAUCAACAAAUUUUUAUUGAUUUAUGAAAAGAUGAAAAUACCUUUGUAAUUAUAUAUCUUACUUUACAAAUAAAAUGUUUUUUUUAGUAAUUUUCUUACUGCGUUCGGACUAAUUGAUGGUUGACACUAUGGCAGUAAAAGGCCUAAUACAUAAUAUAGAUUAAAAAAAAAGUUUUAAACUAAAAUUUUUCAAACAAUUUAAUGUAAAUUAAACCAUUAGUCAUUCAACCAUGAGUAAGUUUUCGUCUUGAUCAUUUAACUAAAAGAAGUUACAAUUUAGUCACUAAUAUUUUUGAAAUUGUUUUUUUAUCACCUAACUGUUAAGUGGCACUUGUUUUAAUUGGUAUAAUAAUAAUUUUAGUCCUUUUUUAUAUUUUCUAUCAAUUUGACUCUAAUUUUGUAUAAAAUUAUAAAAAAAACUCAAAAUUUUAAAAAUAGAAAAAUGUUUAUAAAAAUUCUAAAAAAAAUCUUGAAUAUGUUGUUUCAUAACUAAAUUGUAUGAGAAAUAAAGCAAAUUACUAUUCAAUAAAAUCUGAUAACAAAUUAAAAACAGAACAAAACCAAAAAAAAUCUUCCUCAACGUUUCUCGAAACAAAAAAAAAAUAAUAUUAUUAAGUUGAGUUUCAUGCCAUUGAAGAACAUCUAGAACUCAUAUUACUAAGGCUUAUGAAAUCGACCCUAAUGCCAUUUUUUUAGUCAAAAGAAUACAAUAUAUAUAACAAAAUUUCCUUUUUCAAACUUAAUUCAAUUUUUCAUUACAUUUAAAUUAUGUUUCAAAACUCAAAUUAUAAAAAUAAAUUAUAUUUAGAAAAAAAAUUAUAACAUAAAAGCUAUGUCAAGAAACAGAGAACAAAUAAUUUUACUUAAUGUUUUUCUAUUUUUUACUAAAGAAUGUGUAUUGGAUAUUUCGAUAUAGAUAAUAUAGAGAAAAUUUGUACGGCUUAAAAACAAUUAUCUCUCAUUUUCACUCACUUUAUUUAUUUUUGAAAUUUGUAUCUACUUUUAUUUAAUUUUUAUUUUAUAAUGUUCUAAAAUUUUAAAAAUAAUUUUAAUUUUUUACCAUUUUAUAUAUUAUCAAGAUCAAAUUGACUGAAAGUAUAAAAUUUGAGGAUUAAAAUUGUUAUUAUAUCAAUUAAAAAAGUGUCACUUAACAUUUGAGUGACAAAAAAAAACAAUUUUAAAAACAUUAGUGAUGAAAUUGUAACUUUUUUAAUUAAGUGACCAAAACAAAAAUAGCCAUAGUUUAGUGACUAAUAGUGUAACCUUUUUUUGGUAAAAUGAAAAUUUGACCCUGAUUUUGUAUAAAAAAAAUUAAAAUUAUUUAUAAAAUAAAAAAAUGUAUAUUAUUCAACAUAGGGAUUUUUUACCGAAAUCAUAUAAAAAUAAUUAAUUAUAAAAAUGGUAUAGAAAAUAAAUUAAUUACAAAAAUAAGGCAUUUGGUACAAUGUUCUGUUGGUGUCGCCAGACAUAUUGGUAGCACCAGAUUAAAAUGUGAUGACAAAAAAUAUUCAAGGACUUAAUAUGGAAAUUUCUCAUUUUGAUUGGUUGUUGAAAAUAAGAUAUAAGAGUGUUGUGUGACAUUGUAAGCGGCACAAAAUCUUAAAUAGGGUUAAUUUCUUUGUAAACCGUUAUUAUUUAUUAUUUUGUUUUUAUUCUCCUUCAACACCAAAAUCAGAAAGGCUUCUUACGAAUUAAUUCAAGUCAAAUAAUGUCUAGCAUAACAGUUAAUACUAUUGACAGAAAUUUUUUUUGGCUCAUAUUAUAUCUAAGAAACUAUAGAUUUAACUAAUAAUUAUAAUUUAUAUAUAGUAAAUAUUUUUUAAAGUUUUUCUAAUUAUAAUUUUAUAUGUGCCCGUAAAUUAAAUUGAUAAUAAGAAUAUCUGUAAUGGCAGACAGCAAAGAAAAACCUAAAAGCAAAAGUAAUAAAAAUAGGAUUUCUUGCUAAUAAUUCUACCUUUGUGGAUCCUACCAGAGACUUCAUAAUUUGCCUGUUUUUAUCUUCACUUUCUUCUUAUUUCUUCUUCACUGCUUUUAAUUUGUUUCGAUGUCACAAAUUUUGAAGCAUCCAGUCAAGGUAAUUUUCUUUCAUUUGCUUUUGAUUAAUUCAUGACAUGCUUUUCUUUGCUUUUGAUUAUCUGCUACUGUUAUAGCAGCUAGCUUUGUACGAUAGUCAAGGAAGUCAACUUCAGUACUUCACUGCUUCAUUUUCAGUUCUAAUCUCUCAACACUUUUCAGCCACUAAGUCAGGUAAUAAGACCUGAAGCAAUGAUUUCCUCUACUGAUUACCAACAGUUUUAGAUUUUAAGAGUGGAUGACCAGCAGACAUAAUCCACUAUAGAUAGAAAUUAAUACAAAAACAGCUACCCAGAAGCAAUAUAAUGUUGAAAUCUCAAACUGUCAACAUUUUAACUCUUAAUAUUCUGUAUUGAACUCUUGCACACUUGAAUCUAGCAUUUUAUAUACAUCUAGAGCUUGAUUCUGGUGACCAGAAUUUCAUCAUGUUUCUGUCUGCCACCCAUCCAUAGCUCCAUCUAAUAGACGCCAUUGCUUGAAACUUGCAUUCAUGUUUUCCUUUUCGUGCUUACACUGACAUAUCAAUACUUCAUAAAAUAUCCAAUUCAUUCACAGAUUUUCAUUCUCUGCUACUGUUAUAUAUGAUUGCAUUGCAGGGACAUAGCAAUGGAGUACGUAGAGCCUGUUGUCGGCAUUGCAAAUUGUCUUGGAACUCCUGUUUGUAAAUAUUUGCAAUAUCACAGAAAGCUGAACGAUUAUGUGAGAAACUUCAAGAGGAUCAGAUAUGAAUUGAAUUGCAAAAUGGAAGAUAUAGAGCUGCAAUAGAAAGCAGAGCUUCUUCGUCCUCUGGGAAGAUAUCGAAGAAGGGAGUUGAAAUUUGGUUGAAAGCUGUGAAAGAGAUGAUUAGGGAAGCACAAGCUGUUGAAAACAAAGUCAGUAACGGGAGAUAUCUCUGUCGUGCUUGCAACGGGAAGCUGGUUGAUGAAAAGACUCGAGAAAUGAAGGAAUUUCUUGAUAACGCUCCUAAAGCCUCUGAACGUCUUGCCAUGGAUGGUCCAAGUGCUGGGUUGCCACUGGAAACAUCAGAACUAGUUGGAGAGGAAGCUGUCAGAAAAGAGAUUUGGGCAUGUUUGAUGCAGGAGGAGGUAAGCAAGAUUGGGGCUUGGGGGAUGGGCGGCGUGGGUAAAUCGACCAUAAUGAAGCACAUCCACAAUGAUCUUUUGAAAGAACAACGAUUUGAAAGGGUGGUUUGGGUUGCUAUAUCAAAGGAGUUCAAUAUUGUGAAGUUACAAAAUGAUAUUGCAAGUGCAUUGAAUGGAAAGAUGCCCGAAGAAGCAAACAAGGUCAGACGAGCAGCAAUCUUGUCCGAAAAGCUGAAGAGAGCAGGAAAACAUGUUCUAAUCCUAGAUGAUGUGUGGAGUGAAGUCUCGUUGGAAGAAAUUGGGAUCCCUAAGCCAAGUAGCAGCAAUGGGUACAAGUUGGUGUUGACAACCCGUGUGGAGCAAGUUUGUAAGUCUAUGGGCUGUAAGGUGAUAAAAGUGAAGCCCCUUUCAAAAGAAGAGGCAUUGAUACUAUUCUUGAGUGAAGUUGGACCUAACAUAGUGCAAAAUCAAACUUUAAUGCCAACUUUGAAGCUUGUUGUCAAGGAAUGUGCAGGUCUGCCUCUUACAAAUUGUUGUCAUAGCUGGUACAUUGAGAGGAGAAGAUGACCCUCUUAUUUGGAAAAACACACUCAGGGAAUUGAAAGAGAGAAUAGGGAAAGUGAAAGAAGGGGAAGAUAAAGUGAUCGAGAGUUUGAAAGUUAGCUUCAAUCACUUAAAAGACGAGAAAAUGAAGCAUUGUUUCAUACAUUGCGCAUUAUAUCCUGAAGAUUUUCAAAUUGGGAAGGAUGGGCUAAUUGAGUGCUGGAUUGAAGAGGGAUUCAUAGAUGAUAUGAGUACAAGACAAGAAAUGAAAGAUAAGGGCCAUGUUAUUUUGAAGAAAUUAGAAGAUAAUUGCUUGCUGGAAAAUGUCUCGAGUGAAACAGUAAAAAUGCAUGAUGCAGUGAGAGACAUGGCAUUGUCGAUCACAAGAAUGAAUCCUCGAUAUAUGAUACAAGCAGGUUCGCAAUUAGAAGAGUUACCAGAAAAGGAGCAAUGGAGUCCGGAUAUUGAGAAAGUGUCACUUAUGUAUAACUCCAUAUCAGAAAUUUCCAUAGAUGUGUUGCCCACAAAAUGUCAACUGCUCACAACCUUGUUAUUGCAGCAUAACCCUAUAAAGAAGAUCCCAUAUUCUUUCUUCACAAACAUGCCCUGUCUUAGUGUUCUCAAUUUGUCCUCUACGAAGAUCAAAAGUUUACCAAAUUCCAUCUCUGAACUAAAGAACCUCACAACAUUGUUGCUUUGUUGCUGUGUAGAAUUAAGAGAUCUGCCAUGUCUUUCGAUGCUUCAAGAAUUGAAUAAGUUGGAUCUUUAUGGGACUAACAUUGAGGAAGUCCCUGAAGGAAUGGAUAUGCUGAUAAAGCUAAGCUAUCUUGAUCUUACAGUGUUCACUCUGAAAGAGAUACCCGCUGGACUUUUACCAAAACUCGUUCACCUUCAGCACUUGAGUUUUGCUGGGAACAAUGAAAAAACAAGUCUAAAAGCAGAGGAGAUGGAACCAUUGAAGAAGUUGGAGCGCUUUACUGGGUGUUUCGAAGACACAAGUGAAUUCAAUAAGUUCAUCUCUUCAAUGCAACAAAGUAAGAAAAGUCUCAUCAAGUACCAUUUACGGGUGGGCUCAUAUUUUAUUCCUAUGUGGAGGACUCCUAAAAGAGAUAAAACAAUAGUAAUUGGAGGAGUGGACAAUUGGGAAGGUGAGUUAAUUAUGCACCCAAUUGAAAUUCAAGAGUUGCAUAUUAUUGAGUGCGACUAUGUGAGAAGCCUAGUCGAUGACAAUUCUUCCUUCAAAAAUGCGAUUGACUUGAGGGUUUGUAGGAUUUGGGGGUGUGAAGGGAUAGAGUGUGUUGUUUCCCUGUCCUUUUUUGCCUCUUCUUCCGCUCAUCCAUUUCAGAGCCUCGAGAUGUUGGAUCUUGAACAUCUGCCAAAGUUUAGUGCCCUUAUUAUGAAUGAUACAGGAAUUGGUUCAGCAACAUCAACAGUGGCUCCGUCUGCCAGCUUUUCCCAUCUUAAGGAAAUUAAGAUAAUGAACUGCUCAAGUAUGAAGACGUUGCUUCCACAUUGGUUGCUUCCAAACCUCCAAAACCUGGAAGAAAUUUGGGUGUCACACUGUGAUGAGUUAGAAGAAAUAUUGGGAGCAGCAACAUCAGAAGUUGAAGAAAAAGGGAGUGAUGCAUUAAUCAAAUUCCAUCAUCCCAAAUUGAGAAAGUUGGACUUGUGGGUAUUACCAAAUUUGAAGAGCAUUUGCAGCAAAAGUGGAGUGAUGGUUUGCGAUUCUCUCCAACUUAUCCAAGUUCUAGACUAUUAUAAACUGAAGAGAAUUUCUCUAUUUGUUCCCCUUGUUGGCAAUGGGCAGCCAUUUGCAUAUGCUCCACCUUCUCUUAUCAUCAGGUCAAUCACAGAAUGGUGGGAAUCGUUGGAGUGGGAUGACCAUCCAAACUUUAAAAAUGUUCUUCAACCCCUUUGGAAGGAUAAGAGGUGUGAACUAUUUAUGGUUUAGUUUAUUUUUUUAGUUUGAUAAAUCUAAUUUCUCCAACUCGAAUUUACUUUAAAUUAUAGAACUUGUAGUAAAAUUAUAUUUUAGUUUAUAAAAUAGGGUAUGUAAUCAAUAAAUUAUUUUUAUGCUAUCAGUCAUUACUAUUAUAUCAUAUUUACAUACAGUUAUCUAUUUUAUAUAUUUGAAUUUGAUGACCCAAAUAUUAAAAUUAUAUAUUUAGACAUCAAUACUAAUGAUUAGCCACCCAAUAGUUACUAAGAUGACAUGGCAUUGCUAAUCACUUGUCAAUAACUUGUGAAAUUGCCAUGUCAUCUUAUACGUUACAUAGCAUUUUAUUAUUUUUAAAUUAAAAAAAAGAUAAACUAUAAUUUUAACCAUUAAUUUUUCAAGAAGUUAUAUUUUAGUUAUCAAACUUUGAAAUUCAAAUUUUAGCUUAGCAGUUUUUUAGGUUUCUCAACUUUUCAUAUUCAAGUACCUUUGAGGCCCUCGGUGAACCAUUCAAUGGUUCUUCUUGGAGGUAAAACAUAUCUCCAAAAAUUGAUAGUUGGGUCUUUCCGUUAACCGUUCUACGACUUUCCACGAAUGUGAGACAUAUCUCUAAAAAUUAAUAGUCGAGGCCCUUCAUGAACCAUCCAGCGGCUCUCCAUAAAGGUGAUGCAUAACACCAAAAAUCGACAAUCAAGCCUCCCAUAAACUGUUUAGUCACUCUCCAUGAAGAUGAGGCAUAUCUCCAAAAAACGACAGUGAGAUGUAUAUAUCUCUAAAAAUAUAACUCUAGACCGUUCAAUCAACAAUUAUACAACUCGUGAUAAUAUGCAUUAUAAAUUCCUCGAUUUUUGGGCUAAUAGAUACACUACUCACCAAAUCACAAAGUGAAAUUUAUACAAGUCAGCUACGAAUAAAAACACUAUCGCUAACACAUUGUUAAAAUAGAUAAAAGGCAUGAAUUUCAAUAAUCUCAUAAGUCAUUGUACAUUCUCAAGUCAAUGACUACCAUCCAUCAAACUACAAAGUGAAUUUCAUAUAAGCCAGACGAAAGCACUAUCCAUCAAUAUACCAAUAAAAAAAAUUAAGUCAAGACUUGGAUUCAGUUCAGUAGUGCAAUCCACGGUGUGAUUCAUAAAGGUAUUUAUCCACAGUAAAGGCACCCUUCCAGCAAUGGUUCAUUUUCAUUUCACUAAAGAUCAUUUAUCGAAUGGUAGCUCGCUUUAUUACAAUUCUAAAUAUUUGUAAAUUACCACAAUUUUUAUAAGAAAAAAAAAAGCAAAUAGUUCUCGUCCAGGACGCAUGUAAGAUCAUUUAUCGAACGGUAGCUCGCUUUAUUAUAUUAGCAUAGUCUUAAAUAGUUUCUAUUGCCUCCGAAAUUAGUUUGAUUUCAAACGAUUGCUUUACCUUCAACGUUAGCAUAAUUUAAAUGCUAAUGAACAAUUACAAUACGCCAACACAAUUCUAAAUAUUUGUAAAUUAUCACAAUUUUUAUAUGAAAAAUACAAGCAAAUUGACCUCGUCCACAACACAUGUAAGAUCUGAUUUUACCUCAGAUUUUUGAAAAACAGAGAAUGAUUUAAACUAAAUGAAAAAAAAAACCUGGAGAUAAUGAUUUUUUGUAUUUAAGAUGAGAGGAAGUAAUUAGCCGAUAACUUAAAAACACUAAUAGUUAAUUAAGAAUUUAGGUAUAGGUAUAGGUAGUUGACUGUUAGGAUUUGUUAAAUUAAUGUUCUCUUACAUCUGUUUCUUUUUGGAUUAAAUCCUGAACUGCAUAAAGCAAAAACGUGAGACAAAUUAAUGUUAGCUUGUGCUCCUUCAACUUUUUCGACUUCCAUCUUACUCUGAUUUCAACAUUUCAUUACCACUCUCCAUUAUUUAUAUCUCCUUCUCCUGCAAUGGAAGCUGCAGGUUUCAGAGCUGCCAUAAAUAAGGAUUUCAUAGCUCAAGAACUAGACAAUGACAGGGAAGAUGACCAAGAAGAAGAAGGGGUUGCUAUGAGAAGGUAGGGUUCAGUGAUGGCUUGUCACAGCUUAUGCUACCAAUCUUAAGAACCAAAACAUCAACUUACUAUACUAUGAUGAAGGAUUUUAUAAAAACGUCAGGUAUCAGAAUUAAAAUUCAAUUAUCCAAGGGAACCUAAGGGAUAACAUCUGAAGGAAAUUCAGAUUGUUCAAGAACAAAUUUGAAAUUUAAUGGCAGAUUAGGUAUCCAAUCAGCUGAACCGCUAAAGCGAUUGAAAGCUUGGUAGAAUAUUAUGUUCCAAUGCUACAAAUUCAACUUUAGUUUCCUUCAUUAUAGUUUUCCUAUGUAUAGAAAGCUUAGGAUACCACACAAAAUAUGCAUAACAUUCUAUCCAACAUAAGAAAGGUACAAAAAAGAGUUCGUUAUCAUACGGAAACAGGUGAAGUUGCCACACUUACAGAUCACUAAAAUUUUACAACAAUGAUGGAAAUGUCAUCCUUGCUCUUUCUCUUUACAGCUUCCUCAGUUAGGUGCUUUGCAGCAGAUCGAGCAUCCUUAAUGCCUUUGAUAGCAUCGACAGCUUCUUGGUUUGACAUUACCUGGAAUUUAAGGAACGGACCAUUAAAUCUCAGGUUAAUGUGAUUGGAUAGGGCUUACCUUCCAUAAACCAUCACUAGCCAAUAUUAUGAGGUCAGUAUCAUCGUCGAUUGUUUCAAUGCUCACAUCUGGCUCCGAAGUAAGAUGUUUCCUUAAACUCUUGUCACCAAAUGCUCUCGCCACCACAAGCUGGCCGUCAACACGUGCGACAUCCCCUGAAACAAAAACAAUAUAUAUCAGGAAAAGCUGGUGUAACCUUGAGCGUCAUCCCCAAAAGAUCAGGCACCCAUUACCUGGAAAGUUCGAAACAAAACCACCUCUAUUUUCAAUGCUCUCCUUUCAGAAGCGGGCUCAUGAUCAACUGAAAGCUGCUUAGGCACACCGUUCUUAGAAAUCACAGCCCGGGAAUCGCCAACAUUUGCUAUUACCAGCUUCUGGCAGUUGAUCAAUAUUGCUGUCACUGCCCCAAAUCAAUGGCUUGUUCCAAUAUAUUUGUAUCCGUUAAACGAUACGCUUUCCUAAUCGCAUUCUCUGGUUCCGACCAAAAGUCGGGCUGCUCGCAUAAAAAGAAACAGAGGCGCUUAGUUAAAACUACAAGCAAAACACAGUCAAUGCAUAGGAAAAAGAUACCGUAAGAUCCAGCUUAUUAUAGUUUACCUCAUUCAAGAUAUAGUUAAACAAGUUCGCCUUCAAAUAACCGGGAAUUACAUGGCUCAAAUGGCCAUCGAAUAUGGCAAAUAAACCGAGCUCACUGCCAUUGACUUGCUUAAACUCCGGGAAAACAUAGUCCCCCAUUGGAUGAUUCGCUUUCCCCUUCACUAAAUGAUAACCAUGCGUUAUAUUCUUCGACAUCUUACUCUUCCCUUUUCCAGAUUCAGCAUUAUUAGAAGGGUUUAAGCCAACUUUUUCUUGAACUUUCUCCUGCAGUGAAUCAAUAUAAACAGCUCAAUAAGCAGUAAAUUUACACGUUUCCUAGAAAUCGCCAUUGAUGAAGAAAAACAUGCCAUCACCCGUAAAGCAUUGUGGUGGAAAUGGGUUAAUUCCUUUCCAAAAUGCAGUUAAUUGAUUCAAAACUUUUUAACAAUUUCAUUUUCUUGGGAAAUUAUUGAGGUCAAAUCAUCCAAAAACAUCCAAUUCUUCCCACAAACUAGUUCUUGGAAACAAUUUACUCCAAUUUCCAAAUUUCCAAGAAAAAACAAUCAUAAUCAAACCCCAUAUAUAAUAAAUCCAAAAUCAAUCACUUUAAGAUGCUGCAAAUGGGUGCAAAUGGGUUAUUUCAAAGAAAAAUCAUAACCCAUUUUUUCAGGAUUUUGCUUUGCUCAGUUGGAUUUAGUAAUUAUUACUUAAAACUACAAGAUUUUGGGUUUUACAAAUUAAGUAAUGGUUUUCAAAUUUUAGUACUCUAAAAUUUUCACUCCAAAAUAAAGUAAUCACUUAAAGUGUUUUUUUAUAACAAAAUAAAUAGUUUUAAUGAUUGUUUUCUUAAAAAUUGAAAAGUGAUUUGUCAGAAUUAAUAUUAUCAAAACACACAAUUUCAAUUUUAUUUUUUAGGUUUUUAAACAAGUCAAUAUAAUUCUUCUAGAUUCAACCAUAAUAAACCAGGUUUGUGGCGUUACAAUUUUUUUCCUUAAUUUAUAAAUAUAUUAUCAAUUUUUCUUUGAUUUUAUAUAAAAAAUUAAAAUCAUUUAUAUAAUAGAAAAAUGUAUAUAAAAAUCUAGAAAAAUAAAAUCUUGAAUAUGUUGUUGAAGAACUAAAAUGUAUGAGCAAUAAAGAAAAGUAUCAUUCAAUAGAAUCCAAUAACAAAUUAGAAACAAAACAAAAUAAAGAAAGUUUAGUUUCAUGCUCUUGAAGAACAUCUAGGACUGGUAUUACAUAGUGCAAAAUCAAACUUUAAUGCCAAUUUUGAGGCUCGUUGUUGAAGAAUGUGCGGGUCUACCUCUUACAGUUGUCGUCAUAGCUGGUACAUUGAGAGGAGAAGAUGACCCUCUUAUUUGGAAAAAUACACUAAGGGAAUUGAAAGAGAGAAUAGGGAAAGUGCAAGAAGGGGAAGAUAAAGUGAUCGAGAGUUUGAAAGUUAGCUUCAAUCACUUAAAAGACGAGAAAAUGAAGCAUUGUUUCUUACAUUGCGCAUUAUAUCCCGAAGAUUUUGGAAUUGAAAAGCAUGGGCUAAUUUGUUGGAACAAUGGCAGCAGCAAACAUCAAAACAAAGUUGCAACUCAGUGUUUGCAAGACUGAAGCAAGAAGAAUCGAGGCAAAGCAAAGCAAAAAUUUGGUAAAAAAAAAUCAAAAUACUCAGCAAUGUUGUGACUGAACAUACAUCAUUUUUCAUUCAACUUGAAAUAUAUAAAAGAGUUACAUUGUACAUUGACAGUUACCUAAUGUAUUUAACUGCCCCAACUAAUACAAACCUAAUCACUAGCCAAAAAAAUAAUCAAACAUAGCUGACCAAUCAGCCAUUACAUCAAAAGAUCUUGUCACUAACUUAAGUUUAACUAGUAUUACAAACAAACUAAAGUUGAACUGAACCAAAUUACAUCAAAACAAAGCAGCAAAGUUGGUUGCUUCAUUCGGUUCAAAAACCAUUCGUGCGCACCAAGCAAAAUGAGCUGAGCUCGAUAGCUGCUGGUCUCGACAGUAGCAAGCUUUUGGCUCCAUGUUGCAUUGCAGUCCAGCUUUCAACACUCCUCCUUGGACUGUAUGCAACACAUUCCAAUUGCACUUCUCAAAGAUUCAAAUCGAGCAGCCCCUAAGGGCUUGGUCAUUAUGUUAGCCAAUUGUGCUCCUGAGCUGCAAUGCACAAGGCUGACUUCCUUUGCUUGUUCAGCCUCUCUAACAAAAUGCAAUUUGAUCUUAAAAUGCUUAGUCUUGCAAUGGAACACAGGGUUCUUGGCUAUUGCAACUGCAGACUGAUUGUCCACCCAGAUUUCAGUUGCUUCAUCUUGAGUUUCAUUAAGGUCAUAAAGCAGCUUUCUUAGCCAAAUGGCCUGAUUAACUGCUCCUGCUGCAGCAAUGUACUCUACUUCAGCUGUGGACUGAGCAACAGUUUGUUGCUUCUUAGAACUCCAGCAAAACAUGCCCGAUCCAAUUGUGAAGAAGUAUCCAGAGGUACUCUUCAUGUCAUCGAGAGAUCCUGCCCAGUCGCUGUCAGAGUAGCCUUCUAGUUUCAGUUGGUUCUGACUUUCAAACAUUACACCAAAACUAGCAGUGCCCUUGAUGUAUCUAAGGAUCCUCUUUGCUGCCUUCAAAUGUGCCUCAUUGCAACAAUGCAUAAAUCUCGAUAACAGGCUGACACCAAACAUGAUAUCUGGCCUGGUUGCUGUUAGAUACAACAGACAACCAACUAGGCUUCGAUAGUGCCUCUCAUCAACCCUCUGCUGAUCACCACUGCUAGUCAGCUUUUCUCCUUGAGCCACAGGUGUGCUGACUGCUUUACAGUUAUGCAUGCAAAAUUUGUCUAGGAUCUUCAAAGCAAAUGAGUGUUGGCUGAUGAAGAUACCUCGAUCAGAUUGGUGCACUUCCAUGCCAAGGAAGUAAGUCAUGAUCCCCAAAUCUGUCAUCUCAAACACUUGCUGCAUUUGGACCUUGAACUGAUCAAUGAGCUCGAUUUUGCUCCCUGUCACAAGCAAAUCAUCCACAUACAAGGAGACUAUCAGCAAGGUUUCAUGUUCUGACUUUUUAACAUAUAGAGUAGGCUCACUAAGACUCUUUACAAAUCCAAGUUUGGUCAGGUAGGCAUCAACUCUGUCAUACCAGGCCCUUGGUGCCUGUUUCAGGCCAUAGAGGGCCUUUCUCAACUUAUACACUUUGUCUUCAUGUCCAACAACUUCAAAACCUUCAAGUUGCUCGAUGAAGAUCUCCUCCUUGAGAAAACCAUUCAGGAAUGCUGAUUUGACAUCCAAUUGGUGAACUCUCCACUGCUUCUGAGCUGCUAAAGCAAACAGCAGCUUAAUUGUAUCCAGUCUUGCCACUGGAGCAAAAGUUUCUAGGUAGUCAACACCAUACUGCUGACUGUAGCCCUUCACCACAAGCCUGGCCUUGUGCUUGUUCAGUGAGCCAUCAGCAUUGUACUUGGCCCGAUACACCCAUUUAACUCCUAUGACCCUCUUGUGUUCUGGUCUGCUCACCAACUCCCAAGUCUGAUUUUUGUUGAUCAUUUCCAACUCAGCUUCCAUAGCUUUCAUCCAGCUUCUGUUUUUAGCAGCCUCUUCAAAGUCUGAGGGCUCAAUCACAGCAACAUUGCACCUCUGAUAAACAUCAACCAAAGUUCUGGUGCCCCUCACUGGUAUAUCAUCGACAGCAUCAUUACUUGGUCCUUCUUCUGCAGGUUCAGCAACCAAGUUUAACUGGUCCAAUUCAGACAAGUCAGCCACAACACCAUUCCAAUUCCACACCUUUUCCUCAUCAAACUUUACAUCCCUGCUGACUAAAACCUUCUUUGCUGUAGGAUCAUACACUCUAUAGCCCUUCUUGUUGCUGCUGUAGCCAACAAAGAUUCCUGGAGUUGCUCUGCUCUCAAGCUUGGUCCUUUUCUCUACUGGAAUAAGUGCAUAACAUACACAGCCAAACACUUUUAAGUGUGUUACCACAGGUUUGACUCCAUGCCAAGCCUCAAAAGGAGUCUUAUCCUUGACUGCUCUAGUUGGCAGUCUGUUGAGCAGAUACACUGAGGUGUUGACUGCCUCAGCCCAAAACUGACUUGGAAGCUUGCCUUGAAACAAGAGGCACCUGGCCAUGUUCAGUACAGUCCUAUUCUUUCUCUCACAGACUCCAUUCUGUUGAGGAGUAUAGACUGUUGUGAGCUGAUGGUGAAUCCCAGCACUGUCACAAAGCUUCUGAAAUCUCUCAGACACAUAUUCAGAUCCAUUAUCAGUCCUCAAGGCUCUAAUUUUGCAGCCUGACUGAUUUUCAGCAUAAGCCUUGAAUUUGCAGAAGGCUUCAAACACUUCUGACUUUUGCUUCAAGAAGUAGACCCAGCACAACCUUGUUAAAUCAUCUAUAAACAAGGCAAAGUACCUGUUCUCACUGAUUGAAGGUGUUCUCAUAGGGCCACAAACAUCAGAGUGCACCAAUUCGAGCUUGUCUUGAGCUCUCCAAGCACUGUCAGCAGGAAAAGGUAGUCUAGCCUGCUUACCAAGCUGACAAACCUCACAAACAUUCCCACUAGCUUCAAUUUUUGAAAUGUCAUCAACCAGAUUCAGCCUAUGUAACAGAUCGAUGGAUCUAAAAUUUGCAUGGCCUAGUCUCCUAUGCCACAAGUCAGUGCUUUCAACAAGGCUGGUGUAUGCCUUUCUUUCUAUUUGGCUAACAUCCAGCAUGAAGCACCUAUCAGUCAUAGAGACUGUGACUAACUCCAGACCAUUCAUGUCUUGAACAAUACAGCAACCAUCCUUAAAAACCAAUGUAUAGCCCUUUUCAACUAAUUGGCCUACACUAAGCAAAUUCUGGUCUAAGUCAGGUACAAAAAACACAUCUGAGAUCAGCUUGUACCUGAACCAGUGCUAAUCAACACACUGCCCUUGCCUUUAGCCUCAAUCAGCCUACCAUCUCCAAUUUUAAUCCUCGAGUGGAAGCUUCUGUCUAGGCUUUUGAACAGCUUCUCAUCUGCUGCCAUAUGGUGUGAGCAGCCACUGUCUAGUAGCCAAUCAUUGCUGGCCUUGGUUGUGCCAACAAAACAAGUUGCUGUGAACACUUGCUCCUCCUGAGCUUGAAUGUCCUCAGCAGGUCUAGCUUGUUGCAGAGUAGCCUCCCUUGGUUUGCCCUUGCACACCUUCUCCACAUGGCCAAACUGUUUGCAUUUUCUACACUGAAUAUCUGGCCUAAACCAGCAAUACUUUUCUGAAUGUGUUGUCUUCUUGCAAUGAACACAUGGUGGGAACACCCUUUUUGCUUCAUCUCUUCCUGACUUGACCCUUCUAUUGUGCCAAGGCUUCUUGCCUUUUGCACUCACACUCGAGCCUUCACUGGCUUUAGCCUGGAAAGCAGCUUCAGGAUUCUCCUCCUGCCUAUUUGCCCUCCUUUGCUCAAGUGCAUAUAGGGAAUUUAUCAGCUCAGACAAUGAAAUGGCUGAUAAGUCCCUCGAGUCCUCAAGUGAAGAGAUUUUAGACUCAAAUUUCUCAGGGAGAGUUGUAAUAACCUUUUCAACAACUCUGCUCUCUGUGAAGUCCACUCCCAGGAGCCUAAUGCUGUUGACAAUGGCCAUUAUCCUGUCUGAGUACUGCUUGAUGGUCUCAGACUCCUUCAUCCUCAAAUUUUCAAAGUCUCUCCUGAGGUUGAUUACUUGCUGUUGCCUUGUCUUAUCAGUCCCCAUGAACUCCUCCUUCAGCUUCUCCCAAGCCUGCUUAGGUGAGCCACAGGCCAUGAUGCGAGUAAAUAUCACAUCAGAGACUCCAUUUUGCAAGCAGGCCAUAGCCUUAUGCUUCUUGGCUCGCUCCUCAGUAUGUUGCCUCAUCUGUGCAAUGGUGGGAUAGGCUCUCAAUGGAGGUGGUUCAGCAUCAUUCUCGAUCACACUCCAAAGAUCAUGUGCCUGGAGAUAAGUCUUCAUUUUAACUAUCCAAAUGUGAUAGUUUUCUCCAGUGAACACUGGUGGAGGUGGUGGAGUGAAACUCAUUCUGCUAAACUGAUUUUAAAUGCUUCAAUCUUACCAAAUUUUGAACUUGUUGUUGGUUUUGAUUCGAACACAACAGAUUGCAUACAAAAGCCCCUUAAAGACUCGGGCUCAUGAUACCAUUUGUUGGAACAAUGGCAGCAGCAAACAUCAAAACAAAGUUGCAACUCAGUGUUUGCAAGACUGAAGCAAGAAGAAUCGAGGCCAAGCAAAGCAAAAAUUUGGUAAAAAAAAAAUCAAAAUACUCAGCAAUGUUGUGACUGAACAUACAUCAUUUUUCAUUCAACUUGAAAUAUAUAAAAGAGUUACAUUGUACAUUGACAGUUACCUAAUGUAUUUAACUGCCCCAACUAAUACAAACCUAAUCACUAGCCAAAAAAAUAAUCAAACAUAGCUGACCAAUCAGCCAUUACAUCAAAAGAUCUUGUCACUAACUUAAGUUUAACUAGUAUUACAAACAAACUAAAGUUGAACUGAACCAAAUUACAUCAAAACAAAGCAGCAAAGUUGGUUGCUUCAUUCGGUUCAAAAACCAUUUGUGCGCACCAAGCAAAAUGAGCUGAGCUCGAUAGCUGCUGGUCUCGACAGUAGCAAGCUUUUGGCUCCAUGUUGCAUUGCAGUCCAGCUUUCAACAUAAUUGAUAGCUGGAUUAAAGAGGGAUUCAUAGAUGACAUGAGUACAAGACAAGAAACGAAAGAUAAGGGCCAUCUUGAGUGUAACAGUGAAAAUUCAUGAUGCAGUGAGAGACAUGGCAUUGUCGAUAACAAGAAUGAAUCCUCGAUAUAUGAUACAAGUAGGUUCGCAAUUAGAAGAGUUACCAGAAAAGGAGCAAUGGAGUCCGGAUAUUGAGAAAGUGUCACUUAUGUAUAACUCCAUAUCAGAAAUUUCCAUAGAUGUGCUGCCCACAAAAUGUCAACUGCUCACAACCUUGUUAUUGCAGGAGAACCCUAUAAAGAAGAUCUCAAGUUCUUUCUUCACAAACAUGCCUUGUCUUAGUGUUCUCAAUUUGUCCUCUACGAAGAUCAAAAGUUUACCAAAUUCCAUCUCUGAACUAAAGAACCUCACAACAUUGUUGCUUUGUGGUUGUGAAGAAUUAAGAGAUCUGCCAUGUCUUUCGAUGCUUCAAGAAUUGAAGAAGUUGGACCUUUCUGGGACUAAAAUUGAGGAAGUCCCUGAAGGAAUGGAUAUGCUGAUAAAGCUAAGAUAUCUUGAUCUUAGAGUGCGCACUCUGAAAGAGAUACCCGCUGGAGUUUUACCAAAACUCGUUCACCUUCAGCACUAGGGUUUUCAUGAGAACAAUGAAAAAACAAGUCUAAAAGCAGAGGAGAUGGAACCAUUGAAGAAGUUGGAGUACUUAACCAGACAUUUCGAAGACAUCAGUGGAUUCAAUAAGUUCAUCUCCUCAAUGCAACAAAGUAAGAAAAAUCUCAUCAAGUACUUUUUACAGGUGGGCUCAUAUAAUGUGUGUAUUGGAAGGGAGAAAACAGUAACAAUUGGAGGAGUCCAGAAUUGGGAAGGUGAGUUAAUUAUGCACCCAAUUGAAAUUCGAGAUUUGACUAUUACAAGGUGCGACUAUUUCAGAAACUUAGUCGAUGAUGAUUCUUCCUUCAAAAAUGCGAUUGACUUGAGGGUUUGUAGGAUUUGGGGGUGUGAAGGGAUAGAGUGUGUUGUUUCCCUGUCCUCUUUUGCCUCUUCUUCCGCUCAUCUAUUUCAGAGCCUCGAGGUGUUGUAUCUUCGUGAUCUGCCAAAGCUGAGUGCCCUUAUUAUGAAUGAUGCAGGAAUUGGUUCAGGAACAACAUCAACAUUGGCUCCGUCUGCCACCUUUUCCCAUCUCAAGGAAAUUAUGAUAGUGAACUGCUCAAGUAUGAAGACGCUGCUUCCACAUUAGUUGCUUCCAAACCUCCAAAACCUGGAAGAAAUAGAUGUGGAUGCUUGUAGUCAGCUAGUAGAAAUAUUGGGAGCAGCAACAUCAGAAGUUGAAGAAAAAGGGAGUGAUGCAUUAAUCAAAUUCCAUCUUCCUAAACUGAGAGUGCUGUCAUUCUGGGAAUUACCAAAUUUGAAGAGCAUAUGCAGCAAAAGUGGAGUGAUGGUUUGUGAUUCUUUCCAACUUAUCCAAGUUGCUGGAGACUGUUAUAAACUGAAGAGAAUUCCUCCAUUUGUUCCUCUUGUUGGCAAUGGGCAGCCAUUUGCAUAUGCUCCACCUUCUCUUACCAUCUUCUCAAGCACAGCAUGGUGGGAAUCGUUGGAGUGGGAUGACCAUCCAAACUAUAAAAAUGUUCUUUGCUUCAACCCCCGUUGAGGAUAAGAGGUAUGAACCAUUUAUGGUUUAGUUUAUUUUUUUUUAUUUUGAUAAAUCUAAUUUCUCCAUAUUAAUAAAAUUUGAAGUAUAUUUGUGAAGAUGUUGAAGAGAAAGAUAAAAGGGUUGGUGGGAAAGAAGUAGGGGAGAGGAUAGUGCAAAAGAGAGGAGAAAAGGAAUAAUGGAAGGAAGAGGUUAAGAGCAUGGAGACUGAGAGGCAAAGGUAAAUAAGAAAUCAAACUGCCUCCACUUUUUAAGCAUUUUCCCUCUCUUGCCAUUCCUUCUAUUCUCUUAUAUAUUCUUCUCUAGUAUAUAAUAUAUAUACUUCCCAAAAUAACCUUCUAAAUAUUUAUUAUUAAAAUAUUUAUAUUAAUCAAAAUGACUUAAGGUGAGACAAAACUAUGAUCAUAGUUUUAUUUCCAAUAAAAGUUAGGAAAGUAUUGUAAAAAGACAUAAUAUUUUUUAAUUUCCAUGUAAAAUUUCUGGAAACAUUAAGAUUUAAAAAAUAAUAAUAUAGUUAGAAAUUAAUACCAAGAUAGCUACCCAGAAGCAAUAUAAUGUUGAAAUCCCAAACUGUUGAACAUUUUACCUCUUAAUAUUCUAUUGCACACUUGAAUCCAGCAUUUUCUAUACAUUGAGAGGUUAAUUCUGGAUAUACAAAUUUCAUCAUGUUUCUGUCUGCCACCCAUCCAUGGCUCCAUCUAAUAAACGCCAUUGCUUCAAACUUGCAUUCAUGCUUACACUGACAUAUCAAAAAGCCAAUACAUUCACAGAUUUUCAUUAUCUGCUACUAUUAUAUAUGAUUGCGUUGCAUGGACAUAGCAAUGGAGUACGUAGAGCCUGUUCUUGGCAUUGCAAAUUGUCUCGGAACCCCGGCUUAUAAAUACUUGCUGUAUCACAGAAAGCUCAAUGAUUAUGUGAGAAACUUCAAGAGGACGAGAGAUGAGUUGAAUUGCAAAAUGGAAGAUAUAGAGUUGCAAUUGAAAGCAGAGCUUCUUCGUCCUCUGGGGAAGAUACCGAAGAAGGGAGUUGAAAAUUGGUUGAAAGCUGUGAAAGAGAUGAUUAGGGAAGCACAAGUUGUUGAAAACAAAGUCGGUAACGGGAGAUAUCUCUGUCGUGCUUGCAACGGGAAGCUGGUUGAUGAAAAGACUCGAGAAAUGAAGGAAUUUCUUGAUAACGCUCCUAAUGCCUCUGAAGGUCUUACCAUGGAUGGUCCAAGUGCUGGGUUGCUACUGCCAACAUCAGAACUAGAUGGAGAAGAAGCUGUCAGAAAUGAGAUUUGGGCAUGUUUGAUGCAGGAGGAGGUGAGGAAGAUUGGGGUUUGGGGGAUGGGCAUAAAAAAUUAUUAAAAUAGAUCAUUGCUAAUUCUCUCUUUUCUUAAUCGGUAAGUUUCUCUCUUCAAAUCCUUUUAUUUCUUUAUUGAAUCCAUCGCAUAUCAUUUGCAAACCCAUUUCUGUACAGUUUGUUUGUUCAAUUUUUCUUUUUCCAGUUUUUUUCUUGAUUUAGAUGGAAGAUUCUUUUUGUAGCAUUUGAAGAGUUUCUAAAAAUUUUAGGGUUUUCCUAAAUCUAACUUUCUUGACACCACGUGCACGUAUAAAUUCCUUUCGUGGAGAUUAUUUAUCAUGUUUGUGUGUUUCGUCUUUUGAGGUUGAGCUAUUUUUAUUUUCAAAAAUAAAUAUUUAUUUUCUUUUGCAUUUAUUUCUAAGAUCACCAUAAAUUGUUUAGGGUUGUCGAUUUUGGGGAUUUUAUGGAUAAAUUUUUUUUCAUAUCAGAUGCUCCAACUUUGUGCUUAUGAGUGAUCUUCAAACCUAGGUUAAUGCUGCUCUGACGAAUGAAGAUACUUGCAUGGAUGGAUUCUUAAGCAGGGCUAUGAAUGGGUAUGCAAAGAUGAUGGUGAGGAAACGAAUUAUUAAGAUUACACAAUUGACGAGCAAUGUUUUGGCUCUCACCAAUGACUAUUCUUCAUCUCAGAUCCUUCAUUGAUUUUCUUGAGAAAAUUUUGAUGGCAAGGAAAGCAUUGUGUUUCAUGGAUUUAUGUUCAGUAUGGGAUUUUACGAUUUUCGAACAGGACUUAAGUUUUUAAGGUAUUGUAGAUUGUGUUCUCAAUUCUAUGUUUGUGGUUCUUGAGUUUUGCAAUUGUAUCAGUUUGAAUAUGAAAUUUGUGUUAGUGUAUGUUUAGGGUUUUUUUAUUGUUCUUUUAAUAAUUUUAAAACCAUUUACUAACGUGGUAAAUAAGAGAAAAUAAUGUUAUGUUAGUAUCUAAAUUUAUUUGGACCGUCAUGUCAGAGGUUAAUGUUGACCGUUAAACAACUAACGGUCACAUCAGCCUCUAUGUUAAAAACGAACCAAUUUGUUAGAAAUUUAAAUUUUACACUAUAAAAUUAAUUUUUAAAAUUAACUAUUCAAUUUGUAAUUGAUUUUAUUAAAUUAAAAUAUUCACUAAUGUUUAAAAAUAUUCUCCAUGUUAAUUAAAAAAAUAUUUAAGAAUUCAGUUAAAUGGUAAUCAAUUUAUAUUAAAAUAUCAGCUUUAUUAGUUGUAUUAUUUCAUUAAUGUUCUUAUAAUAUUAUUUCAUUUUUAUUUAUAGACACCAACUUUAAAAUUAGAAGAGAAUUAAUUUACGAGAAGACAUGAUUCAUACUGUAAAUGAUAAAUAAGAUAUUAUAAAUUAAUAUGAUUAAAAUUUAAAUAAUACACAAAGAGUAGCAAAAUAAAUUGAAAACAUUUGAUAUGGUCUAAAUGAACUAUUUAAUAAAAGGAUUAUAUAUUUUGAAAUGGUGAUUUGAGAGACAACUAUAUAAUAAAAGGAUUAUAUAUUUUGUCUUUUAUAAAUAAUUUGUGAUCAAAGAUGACUCACAUAUGUUUUCCAAAGUUGUGGUAAAUAUAUAUAUAUAUUCCUAUCAAGCAAGUUGACAGCUGAAGGGUGCAAAUUUGACUUUGCUAAAUUCUCUAGCAUCAAAGAGGCAAGAUAUGCUGCAAACAAGACAUAAACCAAUAUCAACAUGGUGAUUCCAAAAUUCAGAAGACACUAAACCCCUACUUUUGUAUGAUAGAUGAAAUAUGAUGUACAAAUUUACAGUCAUGGAAUUAGGUGCACUGAAGAUAAUUCAGUGUUAAAAUCAAAGAAAUUUAUCAUUAUUUUUGUUAAUUGUAAAAUUGUGCAUAAACUGGAAAAAAUGUUUCAUUGCCAUUACAAGAAUUUCUUUAAAGUUAAUAGUUUGAGAGAUAAUUUUAAGUAAGAAUUGGAAGGCAUUGUUAUAAAGAGAAUCUGAAGAAAGUAAUUUCGUUUUGAGUUUCAAGUGAAAGGAAUGAAAGAAAGGUUGCUUAAAUAAAUACGGGAUUGGAUAUCGAGCUGUUUUGAAUAGUUGGAGCGAAGGACACAUGGACCAUAUGGAAUUCAAGUCUACUAAAGUAAUGCUAAUCAGGUUCCUCUUUAGAAAUGACAACUUUUCAAAACAUUAUCAAUCUACCUUGAAAGGUGGCAUCAGUGAAAGAAUCAAUCAUGAAAUAUUAAAAUUAUACUAAAAUUACUACAAAGAUUUAUUUCCCUAUAAAUAAACAUUUUCUUAUUCUUCCUUAAAAAUUAUUAACAUGAUUUUAUCUUAAUAUACAUGUGUUUAUAUAUAUUUACGUCCCAAAAUAGCCUUCUAAAAUAUUUAUUUUAAAAAAUAAUUUAUAUAAUACAUAUAACAAUUAAUUAUAAACUUAUUUUGAUAUGAUGUCAAAAUUAAAUAUUAUAACGGUCCUUUACCACAUUCAACACUAACUUUUAUUUUAUAAUUUUUGUUUAAAAAAUAAACUUUAAAUUUUAUAUAUAUAUAAAAAAGCAUGCAUAGGCUUCAAAUUUUAAGUUAAAAAUAUGGGAUAAUAGUUUACUAUAGACCCAUCCAUGGGCCCUCGACCAGAGUCGGGUCUAUAUAGAUAAAGUUUUUUAUAAUUCGGGUCAGCCCAACUCAAAUUUAAUUUAAAUAAUAAAAAAUAUUUUAAAAUUUAAAUUUAAUUAUAAAAACAUACUUUUAUUUUUUUUGAACAUUGAAAUGAGCUUUUUAAGUAGAUCGAGUUGGGUCGAAAACGGGCCCCUUUUACAAAAAUCGAUUGGCUUCUUUAUAGCCGAAUCUUUACAACCCAAAUAAUAUUUUUUUCAAUUUUUUCUCUAUUUCCCCCCCUUUUUUGCUUGAUGUUCGUGGUUUACUUGUUGCAGGUACAUGGAAACAGCAUGGGGGUUGCUACGACGUGGGGCGUGCACGGCGCUGGGGGUUGCUGUGACGUGGGGUGUGCACGACGCUGGGAGAGAAGGGGUUUCUAGAAUUAGGCUAACUGGGCUAGGCUAGAUUUGAGUUUGGGUUAUUGGUUGGGUCAAUUUUAAGUGGGCUGAGGCGAUUUGGGUAUUACAAACGCCACUAAAAAUUAAAGUUCUAAUAAAAAACGGCGCCGUUUUAUUAAGCUUUAAUGCAUAGUUCUGGCGUUUUUUGUAAAAACGCCACUAAAAAUUGAUUUACUUAAGUCAAACGGUUACGUUUUAAAAAAAUAAUUCUAAUCUUUUUAAGUAAUAUUUAUAAGAAUUAUAUAAAAUUAUAAAUUUUAGGUUUUUUUUUGUUUUUUGUUUAUUUCAUUUCUUAUAAUUUGGUCAUAUAUUUCCUAAAUAAAUAGUUAUACAUAAAUAUAUAUCCAUCCAUAUAUAUAUCAAUACUUUUUUUAACUUAUUUAUUAAUUCUAUUUAAACUAAUAUUUAAAUAUAUCAAAUCGCUUAGAUUAAAUUUUUAUAUUAUAAUUUUAAAAAAUAAUUAAUCUAAACCCAAAACCCUGAUCCGACCCUUGAAUUCCUAAACCCUAAACUAUUAACCUUUAACCCCUAACCCCUAAACUUUAAAUCUCAAACCCUAAGUCCAUACCCCCUAAUCCUUAAAAUAGUAAGCCCAUCCAAAAAAUCCCUAAAUCUUUAAUAAUCAUAAAUUAGUUAAAAUCGAUUAAACAUUAAUUAAUAGUUAAAAAUUUUGUAUAAAGUAGCAAUAAACAAUAUUAUCUUUAUAAUAUUUAUUUUUUCAUAUAAAGUUUGAAAUUUAUAAUAUUUUAUUUUAUUGAUAAAUGAAUAAAUUUCUCUAAUUAAGUAAUUUAUUAUAUUCUUUGUCAAAUAGAUAAAUGAAAACAACAAGGAGUAACAAGUAUAUGGGAUUUUUUUUAUUGAAGUGAUAAAAAUAGGAAUGAUAGCGAGUCAGGUAUAUGCAUAUUUUUGAAUGAUUUCAAUUUAAAUUCACAAAUUUAUUUAAGUAUUUAAAUGUUAUUCAUGAAUAAUUUGAGUAUUACUAUUCAAAUUCAAAUUUAAAUUAAAUAAUAUUAUCCAUCGAAUAUUUCAAUCCUAAAAAAAACCUAAAUUUAAAUUUUUAAUUUUUUUGUGGAUAUUUUCAAGUCCACAAAAACCUGAAUUUGAAUAUGGUAAAAUUAUUUUAAUAUAUAUAAUCACAAUUGUAAGAAUUUAGUAACUACUAGAUUUAUAUAUUUGAAAUUACAUUUGUUAUCUGAAUAAGAAAUGCAGAUUUAAAUAAUGGAUAUUCAAGGUAUCUUAUACCCACAUCCACUUCGAAUUCAUAUAGCAUAUAGCAAUUUUAAAAUCUGAAUCUAACUAUUAUUCCAACCUAAAAAAAAAAGUCUUAGAUCAUCAAUCUGAAUUUUCAUCUUUAACUAAAAUAUUCUUUAUUCCAUUAACAUAUGUAAGUGUCCACCGAGCUUUGUUCUUUAUUGUAAUAUUUAUUGAUUUUUUUCUAUUUCUUCAAGGAUUAUUUUUUUAUCGUGCUUUUAAUGUGGUGUUUUAUUAAUUUUUUUAGAUUUUGUUGGUUAAUAAUUUUUAUUUAUGUUGAAAAAUAAUGAAAAAAUAGUUGAUAUAUAUUGUUCGGAACCAAGAUAACUUGGUUGAAGAAAUGAAAGUGGGAGUGAAAGUGCAUUAUGAAGAAGCGUACUAUCUUUUACAAAUUUAUUAUCUCUUUUACAAUUAUAUACACAAACCAAAUCAUAUACCGAAACUAAAAACCCUAAACAAAUUUAUUAUUAUCUUUUUUACAAUUGUACAACCCAAUUUUGCCCAAAACCGGGCCCAUUACAAAACUCAAACAGACCAGCCCAAACCCGAACAACCCAGCAAACUCGGAGCCCAAUAGCUCAGGCCCAACAUCCUAAAAAAGUUGCUUAGGGUUUCAAAAAGUCUGAAACCCUAGCGCCGCAUCUAGGGUCUUUGACCCCUAGAUUUCAGCCGCCGCCGCCAUCGCCUUGCACCGCCACUGUCCCAUCGUCCCACUUGCGCCGUCACCUGCAAGGAAGAAAACAAAGAAAGCCACAGCAACCAAAGAGAGAGAAAUAAUAGAAUAUAAAAUACAUGUAAUUUUUGGGCUAUAAAAAGCUAGUGAUUAUCAUUGUAAGGGGUUCGGAUUCCCCUCUUUUACAAAUAUUUUCAAAAAUCAAAAGCAAACAAAGCGAUUGAAGGUGAUUUUCGCCUUUCACUUCUCUGUUUUUCUUACACUUUUCAUAAAAAUAUCAUUAUUUUUCGAUUUAUUUCUUUAAAAAACAAAAAAGGAGUAAAAAAUACCUUUUAGCGCCGCGCCGGAGGAAGAGGAGACGGACGGUUACUCCUCGUUUUGUGGGGUUAGGCUCGCCUUUUACAAGAUUCGGUGUUGGAUCCGUGUUUAGGAGGCCUUCGGCAUCAAAAAGGAACCGAAAAGGUUCCAUUUUGUACCUCCGGCCACCGCCUGCGGUGAGGAUACGACGGAGGUACGCCGGAGCGUUUGAUCGGAUCCAAGCCGGAGCCUUGAGAGGAGGAGGGGAGCUCUGUUGUUUUUUUAAAGAUGGGGGGGUUGAAAUGAGUUUUUAGAAAAUUUUUGGGCAUAAAUAGCCCUUUUAAAACGACGCCGUUUUGCCCUUAGGGGUCAGGUGACAAAACAACGCCGUUUUGGCCUUGACCCGCGCGGUGACCCGACCCAGGGGGAGGAUCCGCGUGUUUUCUUUAAAGGGUAUAAUUGCGCGCGCAGUCCUUCGACUCUGCAGCGCGUUUCAAUCAAGCCCCUUUUCGCUAUUUUCUUUUAUUUUCAAUCUAGCCCUAUAAUUUUAUUUUUGUUUCAAUUUAGUCCAAUGCAACGCCGCGUUUUUAGAACUCCGUCUAUUUACUAUUUUGGUCCCUCUCUGUUUGGCGCGAGUUACAAUUUAAUCCUUAUUUGUUUUUUUAUUUCGAUUUCGCCCAGUACUUUCGUUUUUAUUUCGAUUAAGUCCAUAUUUAGCAAUUUUAUUAUUAUUAUUAUUAUUAUUGUUAUUAGUAUAUUUAUUAAUAUUAUUGUCAUUAUUGUUAUGUUUUUUUAUUUCUAUUUUCUUAUGAAAGUUUUAGAUAUAUAUGUUUUAUUAUAUUAUUUUUAUUAUAUAAUUGUUUAUAUAUAUGCGUAUAUAUAUAUCUUCUUUUUUUAACUUAUUUAAUACAAAUACUCAUUUUUAUAUACAUAUCUAUCUUACAAUCUAUAUAUAUGCAUGUAUUUUUAUUAUCUUAAUAUAUACGUACAUGUUUUAGGAUAUAUAUAUAUAUACAAGUGUACAUUUAUCCCUUUGUUAGUAUUCAUGUACAUAUUUAUGUAUUUAUAUAUUUCCCUAAUAUAUACUAUAUUUUAUAUAAUAUGUUAUGUAUGUCCUAUAUACGUUCUAAUUUUCAUAUAUAUAUGUUUAAUAAUCUUAUAUAUGCAUAUUUUUAAUUUUCACAAAUACAUGCUUACAUAUUCUUAUAUGCACAUACGUAUAUUUUUAUGCUUUAUAAUUCUAAUACACACACAUACACAUACACAUAUAUAUAUAUACUAUAAUGUUAUCCAUUACUAUUGUUUCAUUUGGUGUUAAUUAAUUUAUUUAUCUACAUGCUUAUUAUUAUUAUUUGCUUAGGUGCUUUAAUUUUUAUUUGUUCAUUUACUUUUAUUUAUUGAUUUCUUUUUAUUAUAUGUUUGCCAUCUUAUUUAUUUAUCAAAAAAAACGGAAAAUUCAAAAAUAAAAACAACACUCGGUAUUUGGGAUCUUCGAGAGAAUCGAGCCCUAACGUAUUGGGUUUUGAUUUUCUUUGUUGAAUCUAAAUAAUCGAGAUUACCUUUUUUAUAAAAAAGACAUAAACGAAAACUCUUUACCGAGAAUUCAAUACGUCGUGUCCUAAUGCAUUGGACAUGAUACAUCGAUUUCUCGAGACGAGGAUUUUUCAAAAUAAUUGCAAUAUUCAAUGUUUAAUAUUUGAAGAAAUUGUACCCUAACGUAUUGGGUUGCAAUUUUUUCAUAUGACUUAAACAAUUAAACACUCUUUUAAACUUUUCUAUGCGAGUUUAGACUUGCUCAUUUCUGAAAAGGUAAGAUAUCGUACCCUAACGUAUUGGGUAUGACAUUUUCUCUUUCUGAAACGAAAAAGUCUUAAUAAGCAGCUCGAUUUUUAUAAAUUUUAUUUCAAAAUAAGGAUUGUAUUUUUAAAUUUCUUUAAAGUUCUCAGUUUUUCGACAUUAAGACAUUAACUAAUCAACUAGGUACCAAUUUUUGGGCGCUACGAGGGUGCUAAUCCUUCCUCGUACGUAACCGACUCCCGGACCCAUUUUCUGAAUUUCAUGGACCAAACUCGUUGUUUUUAAUAAAAUUAAAUUGUUUAUUAAAAACAACCAUUUUUCAAGGUGACCCGAUCACACCUCAUCAAAAAGAUCGGUGGCGACUCCCAUUUUUUUUCGUUUUUGUCAAAACCCAAGUUGACCCCGUUUUCAUCCCAAAAAAUGGUGUCAACAACAGUUAUAUAAGAACAUAUUUAAAAUAUAAAUUAAAAAACUAAUUAAUCUAAACCCAAUACCCUAACCCGACCCCUAAACCCUAGCUAAACCCUAAAUCCCUAACUCCCAACUCCCAACAUCUAACCCCGGCCCUAACCCCUAAACAUUAAAUCUCAGCCCUUAAACCAUAAUCCCUAAAUCCAUAUAUAUAUAUACUCCUGAUCAAUUAUAAUAACCUUAAAAUAGUAAUCCCUAAACCAACCUAAAAUAUUAAAUUAAUAAUUAUAUACCCUAAACCUAAAACCCUAAAUCAACAAUAGUGAUACUUAAUUCAAUAUUUUAAAUUUAAAUUAAUACUAUCUCUUUUACGAUUAUAUAAGAAUUUUUUUAAUAUAUAAAUUAAAAAAUAAUUAGGAAUCAUGUAACCAAAAAACUUUAAAAUUAUUUUAAAUAAUAGUCUUUUAAUUUUUCCAUGUGUUUUAUUUCAAAUUAAUUCUACGUGUUCUUUUUUUUCUGAAGAUUUUAAAUAUUCAAUUAGAAAUAAGUUGAAUUUUAUUUAAUUAAUAUAAAUAAUUAACCAAUUAAGGUAGAAUGUUUUUUGCGGCGCUUUCACAAAAACGUCGCUAAAAACACGAGCAUUAGCGGCACUUUUUCAAAUUGACCCUUAUUUUAUAUAAAAUUAUAAAAAAAAACUCAAAAUCAUUUAUAAAAUAGAAAAAUGUAUAUAAAAUUCUAGAAAAAUAAAAUAUUGAAUAUGUUGUUGAAGAACAAAAUUGUAUAAGAAAUAAAGAAAAAUAUCAUUCAAUAGAAUCCAAUAACAAACUUGGCAAAUAACAAAAUAAAAAAGUUAGAUCAUUACAUACUUCCUCAACGUGUCUCGAAACCAAAUUAGUAGUAUUAUCUAGUUGAGUUUCAUGCUCUUGAAGAACAUUUAGAACCGGUAUUACAGAGGCUUAUGAAAUCGACCCGGAAGUCAUUUUUUUUUAGUCAAAAGAUUACAAAAUAUACCACAAAAUUUUUUUUCAAACUCAAUUCAAGAUUUAAUUAUAUUUAAAUUAUUUUCCAUAACCCAAAUUGUAAAAACAAAUUAUGUUUCUUCUUCCAUGGUCGAGUUGGGCUUGGACAAGGUUUUUAUGUCUUGAGCCGUUACAACUUGAAUUCAAUUUAAAUAAUAAAAUUUAUUUUUAAAAUUCAAAUUUAAUUAAAAAUAUAAAAAUAUUUUUUAAUAUUUUAUUAUUUUCUAAACUCGCAAAUAGACUUUUUGGAUUGACCAAGCUAGGCUAAAAAUGGGUUAGGCUUGAAAAAAUAUUAGAUUAUUUAUAAGAGUAUAUCAAGGAGUCUAAUAAUUACAAUUUUUUUUGGAAGGUCUUAAUAACACUAGAAAUCUUAUCACACGCGUAUGCAUGUGGAAAUCACAUAUUUAUAACAUAGACUAUGUUUAAAAAUAACAUACAAUGAAUACUGAAAAGUAUAAUUUGGAACUAAUUAAUAAUAACACGUGAAAUAUGUAUGAUAUUAAAAUAAAAUUAGAUUAAAUUGAGAGUAAAACAAAAUCUAAACACAAAAACACAUCAUAUUAAGAAUACUAAAUAAAUACAAAUGUUUAUCAUUGUUUUUUCUUCAAUCUCGAGUUGGUGAUGCUAAAUCAAUAACAUUAUUUACAUACACAAAUAUAUAAAAACCUAGAACACAAAUGUUUAUCUGUUAUAAAGCAUGUAUGACAUGGACAUUUCUGACAUUUGUUAAUUCUGCAUGUGCAUUAGGGUGAGAUUUGUGUUUAUGGAGGAAGUGUGGGAGUUUAAUUCAUUUGCCAUAUUUAGUGGCUCAACCACACGUAUUUCUGCAUUUGGCGAUGAAUCACCUAAUGAUCUGGCAGUUAGACUGCGAAUAUUUUGAAAAGUUUCAUAUUGCAACUAAGUGGUGUGUAGGGUUUGAUAGGUAUUUAAUACCCUAUAUGGUGCGUAGGAAUGGUCGAAGAUGGUGUGUAACGAAUUGGAUUAAGAUUGUAAUCUACACAUGAUAUGUUCUGAUUCUGUUUCUGUAUAUAUGAUAUAUGUCUAAUUGACUUCCGAAAGCAUGUUUGAAAAUUAUAUCCAAUAUUUUUACUCUUAUAAGUUACACAUUUAGUUUGUAAGCUCACUCUCAAUUUCUCUUAUUCUUAGGUAAUCCUUAGACUUAGGUGGGUCGGUGCAACUGGAGUUCGAUUAAUUAUCUACUUGUUAUAUUUGUUAUUUUAAUAUGGUUUAUUCUGUUUUGGUUUUGGACUGUUUUUAAGUUUAGGUUUAGUUUUGUUUUAUUUAUUUAUUUAAACAUUUUUGGUUGGUUUAAAUUUGAUCUACAAAAUGUUAAAUUAUAUAGCAACAAAUCGUGUUUUCAAAAUCGGAUUCAACUAAGAAUUUUCGCUGCAAACGUAAGUGUUUUAUGAGUAAACAAUCAACAAAUUUAUCGAAAUGGUUAAGAAGGAUAUUUUCCUCAAAUAAACUCAAAUUUUACUUAAUAAGAGGUAGCAUUGUUUUAUAAGUCGACAGAUUCUGGGUUUUUAAAUAAAUUGUAGUAAUAUCUCCAGAUUUGGCCAUAACGUCUAGGCUAGGUUUGGGGUGUUACAGAGCCUAUAAGCUCACCCAAUGUUUCUAACUUCUCAAUUAAUCAACAUAUUUAGGACCAAACGACGUGCAAGAGAUCAGAUUGAGUUCUCAAUUAUUUAAAUAUGAUGGUUCAUGUUUUUAAAUUAUUCUGGACAUUCUGAUUUUUUUGGGGGGGGGUUGUAAAUCUUUUUUUGGAUUUUGCUUUGCUUAGUUGGAUUUAGUAAUUAUUACUUAAAACUACAAGAUUUUGUGUUUUACAAAUUAAGUCAUGGUUUUCAAAUUUUAGUACUCUAAAAUUUCCACUACAAAAUAAAGUAAUCACUUAAAUGUUUUUCUAUAACAAAAUAAAUAGUUUUAAUGAUUGUUUUCUUAAAAACUGAAAAGCGAUUUUCCAGAAUUAAUAUUGUCAAAGCACACAAUUUUAAAUUUAUUUUCUGGGUUUUUAAACAAGUUAAUGUAAUUCCUCCAGAUUCGACCAUAACGUAUAAACCAAGUUUGUGGUGUUACAAUUUUUGUCCUCAAUUUAUAUAUAUUUUUAUCAAUCUGACCCUGAUUUUAUAUAAAAAAAAUUAAAAUCAUUUAUAAAAUAGAAAAUGUGUAUAAAAUUCUAGAAAAAUAAAAUCUUGAAUAUGUUGUUGAAGAAUUAAAAUGUAUGAGAAAUAAAGAAAAGUAUCAUUCAAUAGAAUCCAAUAACAAAUUAGAAACAAAACGAAAUAAAAAAGUUAAGUUUCAUGCUCUUGAAGAACAUCUAGGACUGAUAUUAUAGAGACUUAUAAAAUCGACUCGACUGUCAUUUUUUUGGUCAAAAGAUUACAAAAUAUACCACAAAUUUUUUUUUCAAACUCAGUUCAAAUUUUAAUUACAUUUAAAUUAUUUUUCAAAACCCAAAUUGUAAAAACAAAAUUUGUUUCUUUUUCCAUGUUGAGUUGAGCUUAGACAAGGUUUUUAUGUCACGAGCUGUUCCAACUCCAAUUCAAUUUAAAUAAUAAAAAAUAUUUUUAAAUUUUAAAUUUAAUUAAGAGUAUAAAAAUAUUUUUUAACAUUUUAUUAUUUUUUUGAACUCUUAAAAGGUUGACUGAGCUCGGCUAAAAAUGAGUUUUGCUUGAAAAAAAUGUAGAUUAUUUUUAAGAGUAUAUCAAGGAGUCUAAUAAUUACAAUUUUUUUAAAAGGUUUUAAUAACACUAGAAAUCUUAUCACACGCAUAUUUCUUACUUUGCAAAUAAAAUAGUAUUUUUGGUAAUUUUCUUAUUGAGUUGGAACCCGAUUGAUGAGUGACACCAACUCAGUAAAAUGUUUAAUACAUAGUAUAGGUAAAACAAUUCUAAACUAAAAUUUUUAAAAGAAUUUAGGGUAAAAUUCAACUAUGGUUAAGUUUUCAUUUUGGUCACUUAAUUAAAAAAUGUUACAAUUUGAUCACUAAUAUUUUCAAAAUUAUUUUCUUUUUGUCACCCAACUGUUAAGUGGCACUUGUUUCAGUUGGUAUAAUAAUAAUUCUAGUCAUCAGUUUUUAUAUUUUCUAUCAAUUUGACUCUGAUUGUGUAUAAAAAAUUAUUAAAAAACUCAAAAUAUUUAUAAAAUAGAAAAAUGUAGAUAAGAUUUCUAGAAAAAUAAAAUCUUGAAGUUGUUGAAUAACUAAACUGUAUGAAAAAUAAAGAAAAUUAUGAUUUAAUAAAAUCCAAUAAUAAAUUAAAAACAAAACAAAGUUACAUUUUGCACCUUAUGCUUGUUCAUAAUAGCUAAUAUUCACAUAGUUUUUCAAUUCAGCCCAUUUUAGUGAUGAAUUCACUAAAUUCCAGUUAUACCAUGAAAGGAGAAGAUAACCCUCGUAUUUGGAAAAAUGCACUCGGGGAAUUGAAAGAGAGAAUAGGGAAAGUGGAAGGAGUGGAAGCUGAGGUAAUCGAGCGCUUGAAAUUUAGCUUCGAUCACUUAAAGGACGAGAAAGUGAAAUAUUGUUUCUUACAUUGCGCAUUAUAUCCCGAAGAUUUUGGAAUUGAAAAGGAUGAACUAAUUGAGUGCUGGAUUGAGGAGGGAUUCAUAGAUGAUAUGGGUACAAGACAAGAAAUGAAAGACAAGGGCCGUGUUAUUUUGAAGAAGUUAGCAGAGAAUUGCUUGCUGGAAAAUAUUACCAAUAAACGUGGUCAACCUUGCAUAAAGAUGCAUGAUGCAGUGAGAGAGAUGGCAUUGUCGAUCACAAGAAUGAAUCCUCGACAUAUGAUACAAGCAGGUUUGCAAUUAGAAGAGUUACCAGAAAAGGAGCAGUGGAGUCCGGAUAUUGAGAAAGUGUCACUUAUGUGUAACUCCAUAUCAGAAAUUUCCAUAGAUGUGCUGCCCACAAAAUGUCAACUGCUCACAACCUUGUUAUUGCAGGAGAACUCUAUAAAGAAGAUCUCAAUUUCUUUCUUCACAAACAUGCCUUGUCUUAGUGUUCUCAAUUUGUCUUUUACAAAGAUCGAGAGUUUACCAAAUUCCAUCUCUGAACUAAAGAACCUCACAACAUUGUUGCUUCGUGGCUGUUAUGAAUUAAGACAUCUGCCAUGUCUUUCGAUGCUUCAAGAAUUGAAGAAGUUGGAUCUUUCUGCGACUAAAAUUGAGGAAGUCCCUGAAGGAAUGGAUAUGCUGAUAAAGCUAAGAUAUCUUGAUCUUGGAGUGUUCACUCAGAAAGAGAUACCCGCUGGACUUUUACCAAAACUCGUUCGCCUUUAGCACUUGGGUUUUCAUGAGGACAAUGAAAAUACAAGUCUAAAAGCAGAGGAGAUGGAACCAUUGAAGAAGUUGGAGUGCUUAACUGGACAUUUCGAAGACAUCAGUGAAUUCAAUAAGUUCAUCUCCUCAAUGCAACAAAGUAAGAAAAAUCUCAUCAAGUACAAAUUACAGGUGGGCUCAUCUUUUAUGCCUGCUAGAAGAGAUAAAACAGUAACAAUUGGAGGAGUCCAGAAUUGGGAAGGUGAGUUAAUUAUGCACCCAAUUGAAAUUCAAGAGUUGCAUAUUAUUGAGUGCGACUAUUUGAGAAGCUUAGUCGAUGAUAAAUCUUCCUUCAAAAAUGCGAUUGACUUGAAGGUUUGUAGUAUUUGGGGGUGUGAAGGGAUAGAGUGUGUUGGUUCCCUGUCCUCUUUUGCCUCUUCAUCCGCUCAUCCAUUUCAAAGCUUCGAGGUGUUGGAUCUUCGAUUUCUGCCAAAGUUGAGUGCCCUUAUUAUGAAAGAUGAAGGAAUUUGUUCAGCAACAACAUCAACAUUGGCUCCGUCUGCCACCUUUUCCCAUCUCAAGGAAAUUAAGAUAGUGAGCUGCUCAAGUAUGAAGUCGUUGAUUCCACAUUGGUUGCUACCAAACCUCCAAAACCUGGAAGAAAUAUUAGUGGAUCAUUGUGAUGAGUUCGUAGAAAUAUUGGGAGCAGAAACAUCAGAAGUUGAAGAAAAAGGGUGUGAUGCAUUAAUCAAAUUCCAUCUUCCCAAAUUGAGAGAAUUGAGUCUACGUAGGUUACCAAAUUUGAAGAGCAUUUGCAGCAAAAGUGGAGUGAUGGUUUGCGAUUCUCUCCAACUUAUCCAAGUUGCUAGAGACUGUUAUAAACUGAAGAGAAUUCCUCCAUUUGUUCCCCUUGUUGGCAAUGGGCAACCAUUUGCAUAUGCUCCACCUUCUCUUACCAUCAAGUCAAGGAAAGAAUGGUGGGAAUCGUUGGAGUGGGAUGGCCAUCCAAACUUUAAAAAUGUUCUUCAACCCCUUUGGAAGGAUGAAAGGUAUGAACCAUUUAUAGUGUAGUUCAUUUUUUUAUUUUGAUAAAUCUAAUUUCUCCAUAUUAAUAAAAUUUGAAGUAUAUUUGUGAUGUUGAUGAAGAGAAAGAGAAAAGGGUUGGUGGGAAAGAAGUAGGGGGGAGGAUAAUGCAAAAGAGAGGAGAAAAGGAAUGAUGGAAGGAAGAGGUUAAGAGCAUAAAUAAAUAAGAAAUCAAACUGCCUCCACUUUUUAAGCAUUGUCCCUCUCACCAUUCCUUCUAUUCUCUUAUUCUUCUCUAAUAUAUAUAUACUUCCCAAAAUAACCUUCUAAAUAUUUAUGAUUAAAAUAUUUAUAUUAAUCAAAAUGAUUUAAGGUGAGACAAAACUAUAAUCAUAGUUUUUUCUUUUUCCAAUAAAAGUUCGGAAAGUAAUGUAAAAAGACAUAAUAAUUUUUAAUUUCGAUGUAAAAUUUCUGGAAACAUUAAGAUUUAAAAAAUAAUAAAUGCUUUUUUUUUAGAACAUAAUAUUUAUUAAACAAUAUAAUUGGAUUCAUUCAUAUGUAAACGUAAUCAUAAAGAGUAAAACAAUAAUGUACGUACUUUCAUAAAAGUAUGAUUUUAGAAAUUAAAAGUGGAAAUUAAAUAAGACAAAUUCUUUUUCUUAAGUAAUAUAAAAAUGGUAGGGAUUAACAUAGUUAAUCCACGUUUCCCAUAUAUAAAAGACAUUUUCCUUUUUCUUUUAAUUUGUGAUGGAUAAGUUGGAAAAUAAAAAUAAAAAAAACUUAGUUUCCUUCUUUUUUUUUUUUUCUUGCUUCAUUUUGUUGUCCGACUUUUAUUUUGAAGCUGAAGGUUUAAUUUUUUUUUAUUCUAAAUACCGAAAAUAUCAUAAGUUCUCAAUAAUUGUGUAGUUUGUAACGCUAGAAAGUUUACAUUUUUAAAAAAGAAAAAGUCAAAAUAGGAUGUUUUUGUUGUCAAGAGAGGCAUAGAUAUAGAGAUUCUGAAUAAAAAAAAAAACUUCGACUUUUUUUAUUUUACAUUGGCGUAAUGCCCCAAAUUUUAUGAAUUCUAGUUGUUAAGCAUGUUAAGUAAUUUGAUUGGGUGUGGUGGUUAAGUGCCUUGAAUGUUUGUUUUAAGUCUUGAGUUCAAUUUUUUUUUAAUUUUUCCUAUUUAUUUUGGUAUUAUGUUCAACUUAAGCCUUAGGGCUUAUCUCUUAUUUUGAAUGAUGAGUAGUGAUAAGGCUUUAGGUUAUCACCAAUUUAAAUUCUAUAAAAUCUGGUAAGUUGGAUUUGGAUUAACUUAAAUCUUUUUAUUUAUUUAUUUUAGUUUAAUUUUACUAAAUCUCUAUUUUCACUCAUUGUUUCAACCGUCCACGCUCUCACCCCACUUUGUACGCUACUUUCUUUUGUUUCCUUAUUCGGCCGUUUAUCUUCUUUUCUCAUCCUUCUUUCUCCUCUUUGAUUAUUCCUAAAUACUACAGUUUAUUUUGUGAGUUCUGUCACUUGAAUCGUAUUCUGUUUGCAAUGUUAGUUUUAUUUGGUUACUUUUGUUAUAUUUCCAUUAAUAGUUUUGUUUUGUUUUGUUUCUUGAACAAGUUGAGUUUGUGUUGGUAUUUUCUGUUCGUUGUCAUGAUUAGUAUUUUUGUGGUUCUCGAUUAGGCGAAAGGUGUGAGAAUCCUAACAUUCCAGCAAAGUAGACACAAUUUUCGAUGUUGUUUUGGAUAACUAAGUAUUCAAAAUCUAUUUUAGGGGCUGAAAUUUUGAUUCAACGAUGUUAUUUUGGAUAAGUAUUGUUAGUUAAUCGGUGUGGUUUGAUGAACGUUUAUAGGAUUCGUGAGUUUCAAUUGAGCGGUUGAUCAAAUCAGCAAUGGGUUGAUGAAAUUAACCCGAAAACUCAAUUGAAACUCGAGAAAUCUAGGGGCCACGCGACUAUGUGGGAAUUUUGGCCAAUUUUAAGCCCUAAUUAGGGGCCGAUUAAAGGACUCAAUUAUUGGGCAUCAUAUAAGCCCAAAAAACUAUAAGUUUUAGUACGUAUAUAUACUUGGCUAAGCUUAGAAGGUAUGUUAAGUAGGUGGUAUAUAAAUCAUAUGCUACGUUAUGUUUCUUAUAAAAAUAUAUGUAUGCAUGUCAUACAAAUUAUGAUAUAUGUAUUUAUGGUAUUAUAAUUAUGAUUAUGCCUAUGUUUUGGGAUGGGUUAUGAUAUGAUGGAGGAAACGUUAUAUGAUAGUUUUUACCGCAACUAUGACGAUAAUACUAUAAAAUUUUUAUCUGAUAGCUCAGUUGCAUAUUUAUGAGUGACAUACUGCCACAUAUUGGUGUGAUUGGAUGGAUGGAUUCUUGGAGUCGUAAUUGGUGAUAUUGCUUGGACGGAGAUGAUAUGUAGCAAUUGGGGGUAUGAUAUGAUAUGAUGUGGGAUAUGAUAUGAUAAGAUAAGAUAUGAAACAUGCUAUAACAUGAUAUGAAAACUGAUAUGAUAUAAGAUAUGCUCCGAUAUGCUAUGAUACAUUAUGAUUUAUAUAUGUACUGCAAUGUGUGGGUCAAAUCACACGUUGGAUGUUAAGCUCACAUGUUUGUUUAUUUUGUUUCAGGUGAUCUUCAGACUUAGGAUUGGACAAUGACUCUAAAGCUCAUAUUUCACUCUUUCGGUUUAAGUAUGCAUUAGACUCUCUUUUGUUUAUGUAGACUUUUUGGGCUUUUGGAUAUUUUAAAUUUAUUUGGGACACUAAAAAUUAUUUUAGCAUUUAUUUUUCAGAAGUUUUAACUUUUACCCAUACUUAAAUCAAGACAACUAAAAAUAAACUAUAGUUAUAAGGUAAAUUUGCUAUAAUGCUUUCUGCUAUAAUGUUGUCCUCCGCAAGUUUUAUUUCAAUUUGCUAUAAUGUUGUCCUCCGCAAGUUUUAUUGAAAUUUGCUAUAAUGUUUUAUCUCACAAACAAAGUAAAUAAAUUAAAUGCAUUUUGAUAAAAUUAAUAAAUAUGGCUUUCUUCAAUGUACUCACGGGUUUUCAAAAAUGAUACGUCUUCAAUAGGUUUUCACUUGAGUUAAAUAGUUUUUUGCCAAAAUGAAGUAAAAUUGUUCUUUUAAUAAUUUUAAAACCAUUUAUUGGUGGUAUAUAAGAGAAAAUAAUGUUAUGUUAGUAUCUAAAUUCAUUUGGGCCGUCAUGUCAGAGGUUAAUGUUGACCGUUAAACAAAUAACAGCCACAUCAGCCUCUAUGUUAAAAACAAACCAAUUUGCUAGAAAUUUAAAUUUUACACUAUAAAAUUAAUUUUUAAAAUUAACUAUUCAAUUUGUAAUUGAUUUUAUUAAAUUAAAAUAUUCACUAAUGUUUAAAAAUGUUCUCCAUGUUUAUUAUACCCUUGUUUGUUCUUUUUUUUUUUAAUUAUUUAAGAUUUCAGUUAAAUGGUAAUCAAUAUAUAUUAAAAUAUUAGUUUUAUUGGUUGUAUUAUUUCAUUAAUGUUCUUAUAAUAUUAUUUCAUUUUUAUUUAUAGACACCAACUUUAAAAUUAGAAGAGGAUUAAUUUACGAGAAAAUAUGGCUCAUACUGUAAACAAUAAAUAAGAUAUUAUAAAUUGAUAUGAUUAAAAUUUAAAUAAUAUAGAAAGAGUAGCAAAAUAAAUUGAAAACAUUUGAUAUGGUCUAUAUGAACUAUAAUAAAAUGAUUAUAUAUUUUGAAAUGGUGAUUUGAGAGACAACUAAUCAAUCCUACUAUUUUGUCUUUUAUAAAUAAUUUGUGAUCAAAGAGCCAUCAAAGAUGACUCACAUAUGUUUUCCAAAGAUAUGAUAAAUAUAUAUAUAUAUAUUCCUAUCAAGCAAGUUGACAGCUAAAGGGUGCAAAUUUGACUUUGCUAAAUUCUCUAGCAUCAAAGAGGGAAGAUAUGUUGCAAACAAGACAUAAACCAAUAUCAACAUGGUGAUUCCAAAAUUCAAGACAGUAAACCCCUACUUUUGUAUGAUAGAGAUAAUAUGAUGUACAAAUUUACAGUCAUGGAAUGUAUUAGGUGCAUUGAAGAUAACUCAAUGUUAGAAUCAAAGAAAUUUAUCAUCAUUUUUGUUAAUUGUAAAAUUGUGCAUAAACUGGAAAAAAAUGUUUUGAUUGCCAUUAUAAGAAUUUCUUUGAAGUUAAUAGUUUGAGAGAUAAUUUUAAGGAGGAAUUGGAAGGCAUUGCUAUAAAGAGAAUCUCAAGAAAGUAAUUUCAUUUUGAGUUUCAAGUGAAAUGAAUGAAAGGAAAGGUUGCUUAAAUAAAUAUAGGAUUGGAUAUUGAGCUGUUUUGAAUAGUUAGAGCGAAGGACACAUAGACCAUAUGAAAUUCAAGUCUACCAAAAUAAUGCUAAUCAGAUUCCUCUUUGGAAAUGACAACUUUUCAAAAAAUUGUCAAUCUACCUUGAAAGGUGGCAUCGGUAAAAGAAUCAAUCAUGAAAUAUUAAAAUUAUACUAAAAUAACUAUAAAGAUUUAUUUCCCCUAUAAAUAAACAUUUUCUUAUUCUUCCUUAAAAAUUAACAUGAUUUUAUCUUAAUAUACAUGUAUAUAUAUAUGUCUCAGAAUAGCCUUCUAAAAUAUUUAUUUUAAAAAAUAAUUUAUAUAAUACAUAUAACAAUUAAUUAUAAACUUAUUUUGAUAUGAUGUCAAAAUUAAAUAUUAUAAUGGUCCUUUAUCACAUUCAACACUAACUUUUAUUUUAUAAUUUUUUAAAAAUAAACUUUAAAUUUUAUAAUAAAAAGGCUUCAAAUUUUAAAUUAAAAAUUUUAAGUCAAAUUUUAAGUUAAAAGAACAUGUUCUUUAGCGGCGCUUUUAAAAAUAAACGCCGCAAAUGUUUGUGGCGUUGUCAUGAAGCGCCGCAAAUACUUUUAGUGGCGCUAAAAAGCGCCGCUAAAGGCUUAAAAAAAUGCCGCUAAAAACCUGUUUUGGUGUAGUGCCUUGACCAGAGUCGGGUCUAUAUAGAUAAAGUUUUUUAUAAUUCAUGUCGGUCCAACUCAAAUUUAAUUUAAAUAAUACAAAAUUAUUUUUAAAAUUUAAAUUUAAUUAUAAAAAUAUACUUUUAUUUUUUUGAACAUUGAAACGAGCUUUUUAGGUAGAUCGAGUUGGGUCAAAAACGGGUUUGGACUUGAAAAUUUUUAGAUUAUUUUUAAGAGAAUAAUAAUAUCAAGGAGUCUAAUAAUUAAAAAUUUUAAAUUAAAAUUUUAUUGUUUGAAAUCUUCUAAUAACAUAAAAAAAUUAAACUAAAGUUUUUAAAAGAAUUUAGGGUAAAAUGCACCAUUCGUCACUCAACAAAGGGUCAAUUUUCAUUUUGGUCACUAAACUAAAAUAAGAUACAAUUUGGUCACUAAUGUUUCUAGAAAAAAAAUUUUGGUCACCCGACUGUUAAGUGGCACUUACUUUAGCUGGUAUGAUAACAAUUUUUGUCACAUUCCAAAAAUCAAGUUAGUAGAAAUUGGGUUAGUGAAACCAAGAGUGGUCACAUCCUAUUUUUGAGUUAAGAUUGUGAAAAUUACGUUAAGUAAAUUGAUUUAGUUAAGUGGUUAAGUGCUUUAGAUGUGUGUUUAAGGUUUUGUGUUCAAAUCUUUCCCCUUAAAUUUUCAUUGUAUUGUCCUAACUUCCAUCUCUAAACAUCUAGCUUAUAUAUUAUUUUUGUUCAAUUGAUUAUAAGAAUGAGUUUGCUCGUUUAGUGGUAAGGCUUUAGUUUACUUAGAGUUCUUAUGUGUGUAAAUUGGAAUUAUUUUUGUUUUUAAACUCUGAGAAUUUUUUUAUAAGGAUAACUAAUCAAAUUGAGUGGGGAAGUUUUCCACUUUCCUACAAAAUUUCCCCAAAAUUUGCCUCAUUCUGUUGUCCACUUCUUGCCACAUUGUUCACGUUUUCUUUUCCCUUUUUUUUUCCAUCUAAUGAUUUCUAUUUUCUUUUUGCUUUAGUAGUUUUGCUGCCUUCCUUUCUCAUCUUUACUCUACUAUUUUCUUUUAUGUUAUUCUAUUGGUAUGCUAUUGAAUCUCUGUUAUUCCUUCGAGUAAGUGUUGGUUAUUUGUUUUAUAUAAAUGUGGUGUUGGGUUAAUCUUUCAAGUGAUUGAUGGUUUCAAGUUUGAUCUUUGCAAUGUGUUGACAUUUGUUAAUUCUGCAUGUGCAUUAGGAUGAGAUUUGUGUUUAGGAGGAAGUGUGGGAGUUUAAUUCAUUUUCCAUAUUUGGUGGCUCAACCACAUAUAUUUUUGCAUUUGGCGAUGAAUCACCUAAUGAUCUGGCAACUAGGCUGCGAAUAUUUUGAAAAGUUUCAUACCGGCACUAAGCAGUGUGUAGGGUUUGAUGGGUAUUUAAUACCCUAUAUGGUGUGUAGGGAUAGUCAGAGAUGGUGUGUAGCGGAUCGGAGUGGGAUUGUAAUCUACAUUUAAUAUGUUCUGAUUAUGUUUCUGUAUAUGAUAUAUGUCUGAUGGACUUCCUAAAGCAUGUUUGAAAAUUAUAUCUGAUAUUUUUACUCUUAUAAGUUACACAUUGAGCUUGUAAGCUCACUCUCAGUUCCUCUUAUUCUUAAGUAAUCCUUAGACUUAGGUGGGUCGGUGCGACUGGAGCUCGAUUAAUUACUUCUUGUUAUAUUUGUGAUUUUAAUCUUGUUUAUUCUGUUUUGGUUUUGAACUAUUUUUAAGUUUAGGUUUAUUUUUGUUUUAUUUAUUUAUUUAAACAUUUUUGGCUGGUUUAAAUUCAAUCUGCAAAAUGUUAAAUUAUAUGGCAAAAAAUCGUGUUUUCAAAUUUGGACUCAAUUAAGAAUUUUCACUGCAAACAUAAGUGGUUUAUGAGUAAAUAAUUGAAAAUUUUAUCGAAAAGGUUAAGAAGGAUAUUUUCCCCAAAUAAACUCGAAUUUUACUUAAUAAGAGCUAGCAUUGUUUUAUAAGUUGAACGGAUUCUAGAUUUUCAAAUAAAUUGUAAUAACAUCUCCAGAUUUGCCCAUAACGUCUAGGCCGGAUUUGGGGUGUUACAGAGCCUAUAAGCUCACUUAGUGUUUCUAACUUCUCAAUUAAUCAACAUAUUUAGGACCAAACGACGUGCAGAAGAUCAGAUUGAGUUCUCAAUUAUUUAAGUAUGAUGGUUCAUGUUUUUAAAUUAUUCUGGACAGUCUGAUUUUUUUGGGGGGGUUGUAAAUCUUUUUCCGGAUUUUGCUUUGCUUAGUUGGAUUUAGUAAUUAUUACUUAAAACUACAAGAUUUUAUGUUUUACAAAUUAAGUCAUGGUUUUCAAAUUUUACUACUCUAAAAUUUCCACUACAAAAUAAAAUAAUCACUUAAGUGUUUUUCUAUAACAAAAUAAAUUGUUUUAAUGAUUGUUUUCUUAAAAACUAAAAAGCGAUUCGCCAGAAUUAAUAUUGUCAAAACACACAAUUUUAAAUUUAUUUUCUAGGUUUUUAAACAAGUUAAUGUAAUUCCUCCAGAUUCGGUCAUAACGUAUAAAUCAGGUUUGUGGCGUUACAAUUUUUGUUCUCAAUUUAUAUAUAUAUUUAUCAAUUUGACCCUGCUUUUAUAUAAAAAAAUUAAAAUCAUUUAUAAAAUAGAACAAUGUAUAUAAAAUUCUAGAAAAAUAAAAUCUUGAAUAUGUUGUCGAAGAACGAAAAUGUAUGAGAAAUAAAGAAAAGUAUCAUUCAAUAGAAUCCAAUAACAAAUUAGAAACAAAAUGAAAUUAAAAAGUUCAUUUUCAUGCUCUUGAAGAACGUCUAGGACUGAUAUUAUAGAGACUUAUAAAAUCGACCCGACUGUCAUUUUUUUGGUCAAAAGAAUACAAAAUAUACCACAAAAGUUUUUUCAAACUCAGUUCAAAUUUUAAUUACAUUUAAAUUAUUUUUCAAAACCCAAAUUGUAAAAACAAUAUGUGUUUCUUCUUCCAUGGUUGAGUUGGGCUUAGACAAGGUUUUUAUGUCACAAGUUGUUCCAACUCCAAUUCAAUUUAAAUAAUAAAAAAUAUUUUUAAAAUUUAAAUUUAAUUAAGAGUAUAAAAAUAUUUUUUAACAUUGUAUUAUUUUUUGAACUCUCAAAUGGACUUUUCUAGGUUGACUGAGCUUGGCUAAAAAUGGGUUAGGCUUGAAAAAAUUUUAGAUUAUUUUUAAGAGUAUAUCAAGGAGUCUAAUAAUUACAAUUUUUUUAAAAGGUUUUAAUAACACUAGAAAUCUUAUCACACGCAUAUAUCUUACUUUGCAAAUAAAAUAGUAUUUUUGGUAAUUUUCUUAUUGAGUUGGGACCCGAUUGAUGAGUGACACAAACUCAGUAAAAUGUUUAAUACAUGGUAUAGAUAAAACAAUUCUAAACUAAAAUUUUUAAAAGAAUUUAGGGUAAAAUUCAACUAUGGUUAAGUUUUCAUUUUGGUCACUUAAUUAAAAAAUGUUACAAUUUGAUCACUAAUAUUUUCGAAAUUAUUUUCUUUUUGUCACCCGACUGUUAAGUGGCACUUGUUUCAGGUGGUAUAAUAAUAAUUCUAGUCAUCAGUUUUUAUAUUUUCUAUCAAUUUGACUCUGAUUGUGUAUAAAAAAUUAUUUAAAAAACUCAAAAUAUUUAUAAAAUAGAAAAAUGUAGAUAAGAUUUCUGGAAAAAUAAAAUCUUGAAGUUGUUGAAUAACUAAACUGUAUGAAAAAUAAAGAAAAUUAUGAUUUAAUAAAAUGCAAUAACAAAUUAAAACAAAACAAAACAAAGUUACAUUUUGCACCUUAUACUUGUUCCUAAUAGCUAAUAUUCACAUAGUUUUUCAAUUCAGUCCAUUUUAGUGAUAAAUUCACUAAAUUCUAGUUAUAGCUAAACAUAUAGAUGAAAUCAAGUACAAAUUACACAUAAUAUAAAACCAGAUAGUAAGUUUCAUAUUUAAUGUCACACCCUAAUACAACUCAUUCACUUGUAUAUUUAAUUUCAAGUUGUAUAUUGAAUACUGACAACUUCAACAAUGCAAAAAAUUUAGUAAUGGGGUGCGAAUAACUAUACCUAAUGCAACUCCUUUACUUGUAUAUUUAAUUUCAAGUUGUAACUUAUAAUUAUGCAUUCUUAUACCCUGCCGUCCCAACUAUUAUUAUUAUUAAAUAUUAUUUAUUGCCAACUUCAAUGAUUUUGUUUUGAUGUCCAAGGUCUAUCCCCAAAUUUCAAGCAUCCUGUCAAGCUAAUUUUCUUUCAUUUGCUUAAUCCAUCACAUGCUUUUCUUUGCUUGAUUCAUGACUUUGCAAUUUCACACCCUAAUACAACUCAUUCCUAAUACAACUCAUUGACUUGUAUAUUUUAUUUCAAGUUGUAACGUAUGAUUAUGCAUUAUUAUACCCUGCUGUCCCAUACUUUUCCAUUAAUUAUUAGAUUUAAUGAUAAAUUUAGCCUUUAACAUUAGAUUAUUUUAUUAAAAUGGCCCUAAUUGUGUUUUUGAGGGUUUUUUUUUUUGCUUAUCAACCUUCGUUCUUUUUUUUUUAGGUAUCUGAUCAGCUGAACCGCUAAAGCGAUUGAAAGCUUGGUAGAUUAUUAUGUUCCGAUGCUACAAAUUCAACUUUGGUUUCCUUACUUCAUUAGACAGUUUCAUUAUAGUUUGCCUAUGUGUAGAAAGCUUAGGAUACGACACAAAAUAUGCAUAACAUUCUAUCCAACAUUAGAACGGUACAAAAAAAAAGUUAGUUAUUAUGAUGGAAAUGUCAUCCUUGUUCCUCUUAACAGCUUCCUUAGUUAGGUGCUUUGCUGCAGAUCGAGCAUCCUUAAUGCCUUUGAUAGCAUCGACAGCUUCUUGGUAACGGACCAUUAAAUCUCAGGUUCAACAUGUAGGUUCAAUAAAAGAAAAAUGUGAUUAGAUAGGGCUUACCUUCCAUAAACCAUCACUAGCCAAUAUUUUAAGGUCGGUAUCAUCGUCGGUUGUUUCAAUGCUCACAUCUGGCUCCGAAGUAAGAUGUUUCUUUAAACUCUUGUCACCAAAUGCUCUUGCCACCGCCAGCUGACCAUCAACAGGCACGACAUCCCCUGAAACAAAAACAAUAUCAGGAAAAGAUGGUGUAACCUUGAGCGUCAUCCCCAAAAGAUCAGGCACCCAUUACCUGGAAUCCAAUAUAUAUUUUUUUGGACCCAUAUCAUGGUUUCAAACAGGUCAUUAGAAAAUUUUGUAAAACCUUAAAAAGAAUAACCAGUACCACACUAAGGUAUCUCUUGUUCUUAAAAAGAAUAAACAGUUCAUUGAAUAACUAAAUUGUAUGAGAAAUAAAACAAAUUACCAUUCAAUAAAAUCCGAGAACAAAUUAAAAACAAAAUAAAACCAAAAAAAGCUUCCUCAUUGUUUCUCAAAAUCAAAUUAGUAAUAUUAUCAAGUUGAGUUUCAUGCCCUUGAAGAACAUCUAGAACUCAUAUUACCAAGUCUUAUGAAAUUGAUCCUAAUGCCAUUUUUUUAGUCAAAAGAAUACAAGAUAUAUAACUAAAUUUCCUUUUUCAAACUUAAUUCAAGUUUUCAUUACAUUUAAAUUAUUUUUCAAAACUCAAAUUAUUAAAAUAAAUUAUAUUUAGAAACAAAAUUUUAUAACGUAAAAGCUAUGUCAAGAAACAUAGAACAAAUAAUUUUGCUUAAUGUUUUUCUACGUUUUUUACUAAAGAACGUGUAUUGGAUAUUUCGAUACAGAUAAUAUAAAUAAAUUUUGUACGGCUUAAAAACAAUUAUCUCUCAUUUUCUCUCACUUUAUUUAUUUUUGAAUAUUUUAUCUACUUUUAUUUAAUUUUUUAUUUUAUAAUGUUCUAAAUUUUUUUAAAAAAAUUAAUUUUUACCACUUUAUAUAUUAUCAAGAUCAAAUUGACUAAAAGUAUAAAAUUUGAGGAUUAAAAUUGUUAUUAUAUCAAUUAAAAAAGUGUCACUUAACAUUUGAGUGACAAAAAAAUAAUUUCAAAAACAUUAGUGAUGAAAUUGUAACUCUUUUAAUUAAGUGACCAAAACAAAAAUACCCAUAGUUUAGUGACUAAUAGUGUAGCCUUUUUUUGGUAAAAUGAAAAUUUGACCCUAAUUUUAUAUAAAAAACUCAAAAUUAUUUAUAAAAUAGAAAAAUGUAUAUUAUUCAACAUAGGGUUUUUUAUCCAAAUCAUACAAAAAUAAUAAUUAAUGACGAAAAUGAUAUGGAAAAUAAAUUAAUUACAAAAACAAGUCAUUUGUUUCGAUGUUCUGCUGGUGUUGUCUGACAUAUUGGCAACACCAGACUAAAAUGUGAUGACCAAAAAUAUUCAAAGACUUGAUAUGUAAAUUUCUCAUUUUGAUUAUCUGUUGAAAAUAAGCUCUAAGGGUGUUGUGUGACAGUGUGGCGGCUCAAAAUCUUAAAUAGUUUUAAUACUUGCAAAAUCAAUACUUCAUCCAAUACAUUCACAAAUUUUCAUUGGUUUUAUUUGUUUUGUUUUAGCUUCUUCUUUUUUUAAUUGUUUUAUUUUUAUUUUUAUUUUACUUUUUUUCCAUUUAUUAUCUUUUGAAUUAUAAUUUUAUUUUUAUGGUUGUUUCUAAAGUUGUAACCUUUUAAUCUUCUUCAGUAUUUGUGUUUAGUUUCUUGUUAGUUUGCUCAAAACUAUGCACUACACCUUCAGUUGCCUACAAUUCCAGUUUUGCAAUUUUAUAUAUAUUAAGGUAGUUUCAAUUUUCUCCCUCUCUUAUGAUAUUCUACUUAGUUUGUGUUUAUAUCUGGUUGUACAUUGAGCACAAUGUACAUUUUAAGUGUGGGGAGGUUAUUUAUAUAAUUAUUAGAAAAUUCUUGAAUUAUUUGUGGUACUUAAGUAAUUUUCUCAUGCUUCCAUUAGAAUGAAUUUUUAUCGAUUUGAGAUUUUUAUUGAUAUUGUUUUGGAUUAAUUUGUAGAUACUUGUGUAUUGGUUGAUUUAAACUUUAAGACAUAAGAGAAUCAAGCACGAUAAGUUAUUUUUUACAAAACAAAUUUCAGUUGUUUCCCUAAAUUUAAGUAUUAUUUUGAAGUUUGAGAUUUGCAAGUUUGACGUCAAAAACUAUGAUUUUUUUUUGAGAUUUUGAGAUUUUCAGCCACUAAGUCAGGUAAUAAGACUGAAGCUAUGAUUUCCUCUGCUGAUUAUCAACAGUUUUAGAUUUCAAGACUGGAUGAUCAGCAGACAUAAUCUACUUUAGAUAGAAAUUAAUACCAAAAGAGCUACCCAGAAGCAAUAUAAUGUUGAAAUCCCAAACUGUUGAACAUUUUACCUCUUUAAUGUUAAAACUCAUUGCUAAUACAACUCAUUGACUUGUAUAUUUAAUUUCAAGUUGUAUAUUCAAUACUGACAACUUCAACGAUGCAAAUCAUUUAGUAAUGGGGUGCGAAUAACUAUACCUAAUGCAACUCCUUUACUUGUAUAUUUAAUUUCAAGUUGUAACUUAUAAUUAUGCAUUCUUAUACCCUGCCAACUAUUAUUAUUAAAUAUUAUUUAUUGCCAUCUUCAAUGAUUUUGUUUUGAUGUCCAACGUUUAUCAUAACAUUUCAAGCAUCCUGUCAAGGUAAUUUUCUUUCAUUUGCUUAAUCCAUCACAUGCUUUUCUUUGCUUGAUUCAUGACUUUGCAAUGAUUGUUUCUGAUUAUCUGCUAUUCUUCGGAGCUAGCUUUGUAAGACAGUCAAGGAAGAAGUGAACUUCACUGCUUCAUUUUUAGUUCUAUUCUCUCGACACUUUUCAGCCACUAAGUCUGGUAAUAAGAUCUGAAGCUAUGAUUUCCUCUACUGAUUAUCAAUAGUUUUAGAUUUCAAGACAAGAUGAUUAGCAGACAUAUUCUACUCUAGAUUGAAAUUAAUACAGAAAGAGCUACCCAGAAGCAAUAUAAUGUUGAAAUCUCAAACGGUUAACAUUUUAGCUCUUAAUAUUCUGUAAUGAACUGUUGCACACUUGAAUCUAGCAUUCUAUAUACAUCGAGAGCUUAAUUCUGGUGACCAGAAUUUCAUCAUGUUCCUGUCUGCCACCCAUCCAUAGCUCCAUCUAAUAAACGCCAUUGCUUGAAACUUGCUUUCAUGUUUUCCUUUUCAUGCUUACACCGACAUAUCAAUACUUCAUAAAAUAUCCAAUCCAUUCAAAGAUUUUCAUUCUCUGCUACUGUUAUAUAUGAUUGCAUUACAGGGACAUAGCAAUGGAGUAUGUAGAGCUUGUUGUCAGCAUUGCAAAUUGUCUCGGAACUCCUGUUUGUAAAUAUUUGCAAUAUCACAGAAAGCUGAACGAUUAUGUGAGAAACUUCAAGAGGAUCAGAGAUGAAUUGAAUUGCAAAAUGGAAGAUAUAGAGCUGUAAUUGAAAGCAGAGCUUCUUUGUCCUCUGGGGAAGAUACCGAAGAAGGGAGUUGAAAAUUGGUUGAAAGCUAUGAAAGAGAUAAUUAGGGAAGCACAAGUUGUUGAAAACAAAGUCAGUAACGGGAGAUAUCUCUGUCGUGCUUGCAACGGGAAGCUGGUUGAUGAAAAGACUCAAGAAAUGGAGGAAUUUCUUGAUAACUCUCCUAAUGCCUCUGGAGGUCUUGCCAUAGAUGGUCUAAGUGCUGGGUUGCCGCUGCCAACAUCAGAACUAGUUGGAGAAGAAGCUGUCAGAAAUGAGAUUUGGGCAUGUUUGAUGCAGGAGGAGGUGAGCAAGAUUGGGGUUUGGGGGAUGGGCGGUGUGGGUAAAACCACUAUCAUGAAGCACAUCCACAAUGAUAUUUUGAAACAACAUAGAUUCGAAAGAGUAAUCUGGGUUACCAUAUCAAAGGAGUUCAAUGUAAUGAAGGUACAAGAUAAUAUUGCAAGUGCGUUGAAGGCGAAAGAAUAUUUAGACAAAGAAGAGGACAAGCUCAGACGAGCAGCAAUCUUGUCAGAAAUGCUGAAGAACGCAGGAAAGCAUGUUCUAAUCCUAGAUGAUGUGUGGGAUAAAGUCUCUCUAGAGGAAGUUGGGAUCCCAGAGCCGAGUGGCAGCUCUGGCUGCAAGUUGGUAUUGACAACCCGUUCGGAGCAUGUCUGUAAGUAUAUGGGUUGUAAGGUGAUAAAAGUGAAGCCCCUUUUAGAAGACGAGGCAUUGAUACUAUUCUUGAAUAAAGUUGGACCUAACAUAGUUCAAAGUCCAACUAUAAUGCCAACUCUGAAGCUUGUUGUCAAGGAAUGUGCGGGUCUACCUCUUACAAUUGUCAUGGUAGCUGGUACCAUGAAAGGAGAAUAUAACCCUCGUAUUUGGAAAAAUGCACUCAAAGAUUUGAAAGAAAGAAUAGGGAAAGUGGAAGGAGUAGAAGCUGAGGUAAUCGAGCGCUUGAAAUUUAGUUUCGAUCACUUGAAAGAUGAGAAAGUAAAAGAUUGCUUCUUGUAUUGUGCUUUAUAUCCUGAAGAUUAUGAAAUUCAUAAGGUUGAACUAAUCGAGUGUUGGAUUGCUGAGAUAUUCAUAGACGAGAUGGACACUAGACAAGAAAUGGAAGAUGAAGGCCUUACUAUUUUGAAAAGGUUGGAAGAUAACUGCUUGUUGGAAAAUAAUACCACUCAAUUUGGUUUACAUGGUAUAAAGAUGCAUGAUGCAGUGAGAGAGAUGGCAUUGUUGAUCACAAGAAUGAAUCCUCGAUAUAUGGUACAAGCAGGCUUGCAAUUAGAAGAGUUACCAAAAAAGGAGAAAUGGAGUCCGGAUAUUGAGAAAGCAUCGCUUAUGUGUAACUACAUAUCAGAAAUUUCCAUAGAUGUGCUGCCCACAAAAUGUUAACUGCUCACAACCUUGUUAUUGCAGGAGAACCCUAUAAAGAAGAUCUCAAUUUCUUUCUUCACAAACAUGCCUUGUCUUAGUGUUCUCAAUUUGUCCUCUACAAAGAUCAAAAGUUUACCAAAUUCCAUCUCUGAACUAAAGAACCUCACAACAAUGUUGCUUCGUGGCUGUCGAGAAUUAAGAGAUCUGCCAUGUCUUUCGAUGCUUCAAGAAUUGAAGAAGUUGGGUCUUUGUUGGACUAAAAUUGAGGAAGUCCCUGAAGGAAUGGAUUUGCUGAUAAAGCUAAGAUAUCUUGAUCUUGAAGUGUUCACUCUGAAAGAGAUACCCGCUGGACUUUUACCAAAACUUGUUCACCUUCAGCAUUUGAGUUUUGAUGUGGACAAUGAAAAAACAAGUCUAAAAGUAGAGGAGAUGGAACCAUUGAAGAAGUUGGAGUACUUUACCGGACGUUUUGAAGAAUUCGGUGAAUUGAAUAAGUUCAUCUCCUCAAUGCAACAAAGUAAGAAAAAUCUCAUCAAGUACUCUUUACACGUUGGCUCAUAUAGUAUGGGUUGUGAAAGGGGUAAAAGUGUAUCAAUUGUGUUAGAAAAAAACAGCAGCAACAAUGAACAACAAAGAGCAUAAGCUCAUGAAAACAGCAAGCAAAAAUUGAUAGGCUAAAAAAUAGCCGAAUGAGAAAGUCCACACUUUCAUUUCCAUUACAAAAUAUAUAAGAAUUACAAAAAUGGAAUGUUUACCUAACAAUUUCCACUAAAUUUGGCAACUUGCCAAUUAAUAAUUAAAAAGAUGAAAGCAUUAUAACUAUCAUUAUGAAAGCAUAUUAGUUAUCAUUAUGAAAGCAAAAGAUGAAAGCAUUAUAGCUAUCAUUAUGAAAGCAUAUUAGCUAUUAUUAUGAAACCAAGUUGCAUAUCAACUUGUUUCAAUUAUAGCUAUCAUUACAAAUAUUAAAAAUAAACAAAAUAAACAAAAUGCACCAAGUUGCUCCUUUGUUGCUUUACAGUCCAUGUUCAACACUCCUCCUUGGACUGUAGGCAACAAACACCAAUUGAUUUCCUUAGAAAUUCAAACCUGAUUGUGCCAAGAGGCUUUGUCAAAAUGUCAGCCAAUUGAUCUUGUGAGCUGCAAUGUAUUAGACUCACUUCUUUGGAUUGGACAACUUCUCGAACAAAGUAAAACUUGAGCUUAAAAUGUUUGGUUUUGCCAUGAAAAACAGGAUUUUUAGAGAUGGCAACUGCUGACUGGUUAUCCACCAAAAUUUCAGUAGGCUCGAGCUGUUCUUCAUUCAAAUCACAUAGCAACUUCCUAAGCCAAAUGGCUUGAUUCACUGCUGCAGCUGCUGCUAUGUAUUCGGCUUCAGCAGUAGACUGAGCAACAGUUUGUUGCUUCUUUAAACUCCAACUGAAAACUCCCGAACCAAGUGUAAAGAAGCAGCCUGAAGUACUUCUCAUAUCAUCAACUGAUCCACCCCAGUCACUAUCUGAGUAGCCAGUUAAUUUCAGCUCACUUCCUUUCUUGAACAUUACACCAAACUUCAAAGUACCUUUGACAUACCUGAGUAUCCUCUUUGCUGCUUUCAAAUGAGUUGAAUUGCAGCUGUGCAUGAAUCUAGACAGUAGACUAACUGAAUGCAUAAGGUCAGGUCUGGUUGCUGUCAAGUAAAGUAAACAUCCAAUCAGGCUUCUAUACUCCUUUUCAUCUACCUUUUCUUCAUUUCCAAAGCUGCUUAGUUUCUCUCCCACAGCUAAUGGUGUGCUCACUGGUUUGCUGUUUUCCAUAUGAAACUUAGUGAGAAUUUUCAAGGCAAAUGCAUGUUGGCUGAUAAAAAUGCCUUGAUCAGACUGGUCUACUUCCAUACCAAGGAAGUAAGUCAUGAUUCCCAAGUCUGUCAUGUCAAACAUGUCUUGCAUAUUCUUCUUGAACUCCUGAAUCAAAUCGACCCUGCUUCCAGUCACUAAUAGAUCAUCUACAUAUAUUGAGACAAUCAGCAAAGUCUCAUCUGUGAACUUCUUUAUAAACAAAGUUGGCUCACUCAAACUUUUCUCGAAAUUGAGCUUAGACAGGUAAGCAUCUAUCCUGUCAUACCAGGCUCGAGGAGCCUAUUUUAGUCCAUAGAGUGCCUUCUUCAGCUUGUAAACCUUGUCCUCCUUUCCUUGGACUUUAAAUCCAUCAGGCUGUUCAACAUAAAUCUCCUCUUUAAGGAAGCCAUUCAGGAAAGCUGACUUGACAUCAAGCUGAUGGACCUUCCACUGUUUCUGUGCAGCCAAAGCAAACAGGAGCUUUAUGGUGUCCAGCCUUGCUACUGGAGCAAAUGUCUCCUCAAAAUCAAUGCCAAACUGUUGAUUGUACCCUUUCACCACAAGCCUUGCCUUGUGCUUGUUCAAAGAGCCAUCAGCAUUGAAUUUGGUCCUGAAAACCCAUUUGACACCUAUGACCUUCUUCUGAUCAGGUCUGUCUACCAGAUCCCAAGUGUCAUUCUUAUGGAUCAUGUCGAUUUCAGCCUCCAUAGCCUUCUUCCAGCUCUUGCUUCUUGCAGCUUCUUCAUAGCUUGAAGGCUCAACAAUGGCCACAUUGCAUCUUUGGUAGAUAUCAGCAAUAGACCUGGUCCCUCUCACAGGAGUAUCAUCUAUAUUGGCAUUACUGACUUCAUUUUCUGCCAAUUCCAGAUUGUUGUCAAUCUGCUCUUCUUCAAACUGACUUGUGUUAGAGCCAUCUAGACUCCAAAACCUUCCUUCAUCGAAUUUGACAUCCCUGCUUACCAAAAUCUUCUUGGUUGAAGGAUCAAAUACUCUGUAGCCCUUCUUGCAGCUACUGUAGCCAACAAAUAUACCAGGAACUGAUCUCUUCUCAAGCUUGGUUCUUCUUUCUGCAGGGACAAGUACAAAACACAUGCAACCAAACACUUUUAAAUGGGAAACUGUUGGUUUAAGAUCAUACCAUGCUUCAAAAGGAGUUUUAUCAUUUAAAGCAUGUAUUGGCAGCCUAUUGAGCAGGUACACUGAGGUGUUGACACCUUCAGCCCAAAAAAUGUUUGGAAGCUUGCUUUGAAACAACAAACACCUGGUCAUGUUCAUCACUGUUCUGUUCUUCCUUUCACAUACUCCAUUUUGCUGAGGAGUAUACACUGUGGUCAAUUGAUGAUGAAUCCCAGCCUGCUCACAUAGCUUCUGAAAUCUUUCAGACAAGUAUUCAGAACCAUUGUCUGUCCUCAAGGCCUUAAUCCUGCAGCCUAUUUGAUUUUCUGCCAAUGCCUUGAACUUUCCAAAAACUUCAAACACUUCUGACUUUUGUUUCAUGAAAUAAACCCAGCAAAAUCUGGUCAGAUCAUCAAUAAACAGUAUAAAAUACUUACUGCCAUUCAGUGAAGGAGUCUUCAUUGGUCCACAGACAUCUGAGUGCACCAAUUCAAGUCUUUCUCGAGCCCUCCAUGCUUGGUUUACUGGAAAAGGCAACCUGGCCUGUUUACCAAGCUGACAUACUUCACAAACAGACUCAUUUACAUCAACCUUAAUCAUGUCCUCUGUCAAACUCAUCUUGUGCAGCAAAUUGAGUGACCUGAAAUUGACAUGGCCAAAUCUUCAAUGCCACAGAUCAGCAUUGUCAACUGAACUUGUAUAGGCUCUUCUCUCAAGUUGGCUCACAUCAAACAUAAAACACCUAUCUGCCAUGGGUGCUGAAACAACUUCUCUACCAAGAGUAUCAUUAAUAACACAAGAAUCAUUCUUGAAAACUAGAGAGUAGCCUUUCUUAACCAGCUGACCUACACUAAGUAGAUUUUGAUCUAUUUCAGGUACAUAAAGCACAUCUGAAAUAACCUUGUUACCUGAACUGGUGUUGAUCACAACAUCACCUCUGCCUUUAGCUUCAAUCAGAUUCCCAUUGCCUAUUCUGACCUUUGAAGCAAAACUCCUGUCAAGAUCCUUGAACAGGCUCUCAUUUGAUGCCAUGUGAUGUGAGCAGCCACUAUCCACAAGCCAACUGCAUUUGGAUUUGCUUGUGGUUGUAGAACAUGAGGCAGUGAAGACAUGCUCCUCCUGAGCUUGAAGAUCUUCAGCAGUCUUGGCUUGUACUGGCAGAGUUUGUGACUUUUCUUGAUUUCUACAAAUCUUUUCAUGAUGACCAUACUGCUUGCAGCUCUUGCAUUGGAUGUCUGGUUUGUUCCAGCAAUACUUCUCCAAAUGGUUAGUCUUCUUGCAGUGAACGCAUGGUGGAAACCUCCUUCUACCGACAUCUUUCUUUGAUCUUUCCCUCUUUUCAAACCAAGGCUUCUUAUAUUAAAAUUAUGUUAAAAUAACUAUAAAGAUUUAUUUCCCCUAUAUAUAAACAUUUUCUUAUUCUUCCUUAAAAAUUAACAUGAUUUUAUCUUACUAUUUAUGUAUAUAUAUAUUUACGUCUCAAAAUAGCCUUCUAAAAUAUUUAUUUUAAAAAAUAAUUUAUAUAAUACAUAUAACAAUUAAUUAUAAACUUAUUUUGAUAUGAUGUCAAAAUUAAAUAUUAUAAUGGUCCUUUACCACAUUCAACACUAACUUUUAUUUUAUUAUUUUUUAAAAAAAUAAACUUUUAAUUUUACAAUAAAAACCAUACAUAGGCUUCAAAUUUUAAGUUAAAAACAUGGGAUAAUAGUUUACUAUAGCCCCAUCCAUGGGCCCUCGACCAAAGUCGGGUCUAUAUAGAUAAAGUUUUUUAUAAUUCGGGUCAGUCCAACUCAAAUUUAAUUUAAAUAAUAAAAAAUUAUUUUUAAAAUUUAAAUUUAAUUAUAAAAUAAUACUUUUAUUUUUUUUAACAUUGAAACGAGCUUUUUAGGUAAGUCGAGUUGGGUCGAAAAUGGGCUUGGACUUGAAAAUUUUUAGAUUACUUUUAAGAGAAUAAUAAUAUAAUGGAGUCUAAUAAUUAAAAAUUUUGAAUUAAAAUUUUAUUGUUUGAAAUCUCCUAAUAACAUUAAAAAAUUAAACUAAAGUUUUUAAAAGAAUUUAGGAUAAACUACACCAUUAGUCACUCAAAAAAUGGUCAAUUUUCAUUUUGGUCACUUAACUAAAAUAAGAUACAAUUUGGUCACUAAUGUUUCUAGAAAAAAAUCUUGGUCACCCGACUGUCAAGUGGCGCUUACUCUAGCUAGUAUAAUAACAAUUUUUAUCACAUCCCAAAAAGUAGGUUAGUAGAAAUUGGGUUAGUGAAACCAAGAGUGGUCACGUCCUAUUUUUGAGUUAAGAUUGUGAAAAUUAUGUUAAGUAAAUUGAUUUGGUUUAGUGGUUAAGUGCUUUGGAUGUGUGUUUAAGGUUUUGUGUUCAAAUCUUUUCCCUUAAAUUUUUAUUAUUUUUGUCCUAACUUCCAUGUUUGAACAUCUAGCUUAUAUAUUAUUUUUGCUCAAUUGAUAAUAAGAAUAGUUUGUUAGUUUAGUGGUAAGGUUUUAGUUUAUUUAAAGGUCUUGUGUUUGAACCCUAUAUAAGUAAUGUGGAAAUUUUUUUUAUAGGGAUAACUAAUCAAUUUGAGUGGGGAAGUUUUCCAUUUUCCUACAAAAUUUCCCCAAAAUUCUCCUAAUUCUAUCGUCCUCUUCUUGCCACAUUGUUCACAUUUUCUUUUCCCUUUUCUUUUUCCAUCUACUGAUUUCUAUUUUCUUUUUGCUUCAGUAGUUUUGCUGCCUUCCUUUCUCAUCUUUGCUCUAAUAUUUUCUUUUGUGUUAUUCUAUUGGUACGCUGUUGAAUCUCUGUUAUUCCUUCGGGUAAGUGUUGGUUAUUUGUUUUAUAUAAAUGUGGUGUUGGGUUAAUCUUUCAAGUGAUUGAUGGUUUCAAGUUUUAUUUUUGCAAUGUGUUGUUAGGAGAAGAUCGAUAGACUCGUGAAUUGUCUCCAGCAGUUUAUGUCUGGGAAAGGGCUAUUGUUUUUGCAAGGGUAAGUGAUUAAAGUUUUCAAUUGAAGGUUGAUUUGGUUGCUUAGGCUAAGUGUUUAGCAUUUGCAAUUGAAUUAGUGACUUGGAUGUAGCACAUUACUAAUAAUUCUUAGGUUCUAAAAUGUCGGUUUAGGUACUAGAAUCCUCAUAGUGGUGUUAGCAUCGAAAACCGACCAAGUGUGUAACAAAAAUAUUAAAAAAUAGUGAACGGCACGAUGUCAAAAAACCCACUAUCGACGUCACACAGCCAUGUGCCAGGUUAUGUGGGUCAUAUAGGCUGAGUUAUUUGGGCCGUGUGGGCUACACAGGUGUGUGUUAAGCUGUGUGCUAGGUUGUGUAGGCCACAUGGGUUAGGUCAGUUAGGUCGUGUGGGCCCAUUUUUUGUAUAAUCUCGUCAAGGUCGUAUUUGAAGUGUGAUUUGAAAUUCGUUACUUCGUAAGUUCCGAAAUGUGUUAUGUAUGCGUUCUAAAUACAAAAUUUGAUAUUUUAUUUCUGUUAAUGUGAUUUUUGAAGCAUAUUAUUCAAUAUUGACAUUGUACAUGUAACAUUCAAGAGCAUUCUGUGGUAUAAUUUAUGCUUCUGAUCUGUAAUUUGAGAAUCUAUUUAAGCAUGAUUCAUUUAUGUACAUCUUAGUAUGUAAAAUAUUUUGACAUAUGCAUUAGGGUGGGAUGAUGGUGUGAUGGAAGAAGUGUUUUGGCAGUUUAACUGCAUACUGAUGUUUAUAAGCCACCGUUGUUUGGCAACUCGGGAUAACUUAAUUUGUGGUUUAACCACAUAUCUAAUAUGGUGGCUUGACCAGACUUAUUGAUUUUGGCGGAAUACCGCAUUAUUUCUGGCAAUUUAACUGCGCUAUUUUAAAAAGUGAUAUAUGCUUACUUAUUGGUGUGAUGGAUGGAUGGGCUCUUAUAGUCCUAUGUGGUGUGUAUUGGUGGGACGGAGAUGGUGUGUAGUGGAUUGGGAUAGGAUUUAUUUCUGUGUCUGUAUUUGCAUCUGUAUUUGUAUCUACAUCUGAUUCUGCAUAUGAGAUUGCAUCUGUAUCUGAAACUGAAAUUAUAUAUGUAAUUGAAUUGUAUCUAUUUUUGGAAUUGUUACUGUAAUUGAGUCUAUUCUGCCUGUUUGGGUUGAGUUACACAUGUAAUUGUUACUGUAUUUGAGUCUAUUCUGCCUGUUUGGGUUGAGUUACACACUAAGCCUAUAAGCUCACCCAAGUUCUUUAACUUCUCAGGUAAUCGACAUACUUAGGACCAAACGACGUGCAGAAGCUCAUAUUGGGUUCUCAGUUAUUUAAGUAUGAUGGUUCAUGUUUUUAAAUUAUUCUGGACUUUCUAGAUUUUUUUAGGGGUUUGUAAAUCUGUUUCUGUAUUUUUCUUUAUGUUUUGGUUUGCUUAGUUGAAUUUAGUAAUUAUUACUUAAAACUACAAAGUUUUGUGUUUUGCAAAUUAAGUCACGAUUUUCGAAAUUUAAUACUUUGAAAUUUCCGCUACAAAAUAAAGUAAUCAUUUAAGUGUUUUUCUAUAAUAAAAUAAAUAUUUUUAAUGAGUGUUUUCUUAAAAACUGGAAAGUGAUUUGCCAGAAUUAAUAUUGCCAAAACACACGAUUUCAAAUUCAAUUUCUAGGUUUUUUAAAUAAGCUAAUGUAAUUCCUCCAAAUUUGGCCAUAACGUCUAGGCCAGAUUUGGGAUGUUACAAUUUUAGUCCUUAAUUUUUAUAUUUUUAUCAAAUUGAUCCUGAUUUUAUAUAAAAAUUAUAAAAAAACCUCAAAAUCAUUUAUAAAAUAGAAAAAAUGUAUAUAAAAUUCUAGAAAAAUAAAAUCUUGAAUAUGUUGUUGAAGAACUAAAUUGUAUGAGAAAUAAAGAAAAGUAUCAUUCAAUAGAAUCCAAUAACAAACUAGGCACAUAACAAAAUAAAAAAGUUAGAUCAUUACAUACUUCCUCAACGUUUCUCGAAACCAAAUUAGUAAUAUUAUCUAGUUGAGUUUCAUGCUCUUGAAGAACAUUUAGAACCGGUAUUACAGAGGCUUAUGAAAUCGACCCUGAUGUCAUUUUUUAGUCAAAAGAUUACAAAAUAUACCACAAAAUUUUUUCAAACUCAAUUCAAAAUUUAAUUAUAUUUAAAUUAUUUUUCAUAACCCAAAUUGUAAAAACAAAUUAUGUUUCUUCUUCCAUGGUCGAGUGGCUUGGACAAGGGUGUUAUGUCUUGAGCCAUUACAACUUGAAUUUAAUUUAAAUAAUAAAAUAUAUUUUUAAAUUUUAAAUUUAAUUAAAAAUAUAAAAAAAUUUUAAUAUUUUAUUAUUUUCUGAACUCUCAAAUGGACUUUUUGGAUUGACCAAGCUAGGCUAAAAAUGGGUUAGGCUUGAAAACAUUUUAGAUUAUUUUUAAGAGUAUAUCAAGGAGUCUAAUAAUUACAAUUUUUUUUGAAAGGUCUUAAUAACACUAGAAAUCUUAUCACAUGAUUAUGCAUGUGGAAAUCACGUAUUUAUAACACAGACUUGUGUUUAAAAAUAACAUACAAUGAAUACUGAAAAAUAUGAUUUGGAACUAAUUAAUAAUAACACGUGAAAUAUGUAUGAAAUUAAAAUAAAAAUUAGAUUAAAUUGAAAGUAAAACAAAAUCUAAACACAAACAAAUCAUAUUAAGAAUAGUAAAUGAAUACAAAUGUUUAUCAUUGUUUUGUCUUCAAUCCUGAGUUGGUGAUGCUAAAUCAAUAACAUUAUUUACAUACACAAAUAUAUAAAAAUUUAGAACACAAAUGUUUAUCUAUUAUAAAAGCAUGUAUGACAUGUACAUUUCUGACAUUUGUUAAUUCUACAUGUGCAUUAGGAUGAGAUUUGUGUUAAUGGAGGAAGUGUGGGAGUUUAAUUCAUUUGCCAAAUUUGGUGGCUCAGCCACACAUAUUUCUACAUUUGGCGAUGAAUCACCUAAUGAUCUGGCAGUUAGGCUGCGAAUAUUUUGAAAAGUUUCAUACCGACACUAAGCGGUGUGUAGGGUUUGAUAGGUAUUUAAUACCCUAUAUGGUGUGUAGGGAUGGUCGGAGAUGGUGUGUAACGGAUUGGAGUAGGAUUGUAAUCUACAUCUGGUAUGUUUUGAUUCUGUUUCUGUAUAUGAUAUAUGUCUCUUAUUGACUUCCGAAAGCAUGUUUGAAAAUUAUAUCUGAUAUUUUUACUCUUAUAAGUUACACAUUGAGCUUGUAAGCUCACUCUCAGUUUCUCUUAUUCUUAGGUAAUCCUUAGACUUAGGUGGGUCGGAGCGACUGGAGAUCGAUUAAUUAUCUUCUUGUUAUAUUUGUUAUUUUAAUCUGGUUUAUUCUAUUUGGUUUUGAACUGUUUUUGGAUUGUUUUUAACUUUAGGUCUAUUUUCGUUUUGUUUAUUUAUUUAAACUUUUUUGGUUGGUUUAAAUUUGAUCUACAAAAUGUCAAAUUAUAUAGCAACAAACCGUGUUUUCAAAAUUGGACUCAACCAAGAAUUUUCGUUGCAAACGUAAGUGUUUUACAAGUAAAUAAUCGACAAAUUUAUCAAAAUGGUUAAGAAGGAUAUUUUUCCCAAAUAAACUCGGAUUUUACUUCAUAAGAGCUAGCAUUGUUUUAUAAGUUGAACGGAUUCUAGAUUUUCAAAUAAAUUGUAGUAACAUCUUUAGAUUUGGCCAUAACGUCUAGGCCGGGUUUGGGGUGUUACAGAGCCUAUAAGCUCACCCAAUGUUUCUAACUUCUCAAUUAAUCAACAUAUUUAGGACCAGACGCCGUGCAGGAGAUCAGAUUGAGUUCUCAAUUAUUUAAGUAUGAUGGUUCAUGUUUUUAAAUUAUUCUGGACAUUCUGAUUUUUUUCGGGGGUUGUAAAUCUUUUUUCGGAUUUUGCUUUGCUUAGUUGGAUUUAGUAAUUAUUACUUAAAACUACAAGAUUUUGUGUUUUACAAAUUAAGUCAUGGUUUUCAAAUUUUAGUACUCUAAAAUUUCCACUACAAAAUAAAGUAAUGACUUGAGUGUUUUUCUAUAACAAAAUAAAUAGUUUUAAUGAUUGUUUUCUUAAAAACUGAAAAGCAAUUCGCCAGAAUUAAUAUUGUUAAAACACACAAUUUCAAAUUUAUUUUCUGAGUUUUUAAACAAGUUAAUGUAAUUCCUCCAGAUUCGACCAUAACGUAUAAACCAAGUUUGUGGCGUUACAAUUUUUGUCCUCAAUUUAUAUAUAUAUUAUAUAUAUUUAUCAAUUUGACCCUGGUUUUAUAUAAAAAAUUUAAAAUCAUUUAUAAAAUAGAAAUAUAUAUAUAUAAAAUUCUAGAAAAAUAAAAUCUUGAAUAUGUUGUUGAAGAACUAAAAUGUAUGAGAUAUAAAGAAAAGUAUCAUUCAAUGGAAUCCAAUAACAAAUUAGAAACAAAACGAAAUAAAAAAGUUCAGUUUCAUGCUCUUGAAGAACAUCUAGGACUGAUGUUACAGAGACUUAUAAAAUUGACCCGGAUGUCAUUUUUUGUCAAAAGAUUACAAAAUAUACCAUAAUUUUUUUUCAAAGCCAGUUCAAAUUUUAAUUACAUUUAAAUUAUUUUUCAAAACCCAAAUUGUAAAAACAAAAUGUGUUUUCUUCUUCCAUGGUUGAGUUGGGUUGGACAAGGUUUUUAUGUCACUAGCUGUUCCAACUCGAAUUCAAUUUAAAUAAUAAAUUUUUUAAAUUUUAAAUUUAAUUAAGAAUAUAAAAAUAUUUUUAAUAUUUUCUUAUUUUUUGAACUCUCAAAUGGACUUUUCUGGGUUGACUGAGCUGGGCUAAAAAUGGGUUAGGCUUGAAAAAAAUUUAGAUUAUUUUUUAGAGUAUAUUAAGGAGUCUAAUAAUUAUAAUUUUUUUGAAAGUUUUUAAUAAAACUAGAAAUCUUAUCACAGGCAUAUGCGUGUGAAAAUCACGUAUUUAGAAUACAUAUUUGCGUUUAAAAAGAACAUACAAUAAAUAAUGAAAAGUAUGAUUCGGAACUAAUUAAUAAUAACACAUGAAAUAUGUAUGAUAUUAAAAUAAAAAUUAGAUUAAAUUGAGAGUGAAACAAAAUUUAAACACAAAAACAAAUGAAUAUUAAAUGAAUACAAAUGUUUAUCAUUGUUUUGUCUUCAAUACUGAGUUGGUGCCAUGUUCAUUUGUGACGCUAAAUCAAUGACAUUAUUUACAUAUACAAAUAUAUAAAAAUUUAGAACACAAAUAUACUUAUUAAAGUUUCAAAUGAAAACCUUAAAUUGUUUUAGUUACAAUGUAAAUGAAAAAGCUUUAUAUGCUUGGUGUCCCCUAGUUCAAAUAUCAUUAUGGGUAAAUUUUUAUUGAUUUAUAAAAAAAUAUAUAAAAUGAUGAAAACACCCUCAUAAACAUAUAUCUUACUUUGCAAAUAAAAUAGUAUUUUUGGUAAUUUUCUUAUUGAGUUGGGACUCGAUUGAUGAGUGACACUAACUCAGUAAAAUGCUUAAUACAUAGUAUAGAUAAAACAAUUCUAAACUAAAAUUUUUAAAAGAAUUUAGGGUAAAAUUCAACUAUGGAUAAGUUUUCAUUUUGGUCACUUAACUAAAAAAUGUUACAAUUUGAUCACUAAUGUUUUUGAAAUUAUUUUCCUUUUGUCACUCGACUGUUAAGUGGCACUUGUUUUUGUUUGUAUAAUAAUAAUUCUAGUAAUCAAUUUUUAUAUUUUCUGUCAAUUUGACCUUGAUUUUGUAUAAAAUUAUAAAAAAACUAAAAAAUAUUUAUAAAAUAGGAAAAUGUAUAUAAAAAACUCUAAAAAAUAAAAUCUUGAAUAUGUUGUUGAAUAGCUGGAUUUUAUUGAGAAAUAAAGAAAAUUAUCAUUUAAUAGAACGUAAUAAUGAAAAACAAAACAAAACAAAGUUACAUUUUGCAUCUUAUACUUGUUCAUAAUAGCUAAUAUUCACAAAAAUUUUCAAUUCAGUCCAUUUUAGUGAUGAAUUCACUAAAUUCUAGUUAUAGCUAAACAUAUAGAUGAAAUCAAGUACAAUUUAGACAUAAUAUAAAACCAGAUAGUAAGUUUCAUAUUUAAUGUCACACCCUAAUACAACUCAUUCACUUGUAUAUUUAAUUUCAAGUUGUAACAUAUGAUUAUGCAUUCUUAUACCCUGCUGUCCCAUACUUUUCGAUUAAUUAUUAGGUUUAAUGAUAAAUUUAACCUUUAAUGUUUGAUUAUUUUAUUAAAAUGGUCCUAAUUGUGUUUUUGAGUUUUUUUUUUGCUAUCAACCUUUGUUCUUUUUUUUUCACUCUUCUUUUUUAAAUAGAUUUAAUGAAAGUACCUUAAAAAAGUGAAAUUUCAUAUGUCGAAUAUUUUUAAUGAGAUAUAAUUUAUUAGUUAGAAAAUCCAAUAAGAUAUUUAUAUUCUUGUGAAAAAAAUAAUACAUUAAAGUGAAAAAAAACUUAAUUUAAAGAAAAUAAAUGUAAUUAUUUUAAAAAAAUUAACUCAGUAGAAAAACUUUUCAGUAAACAAACAUAUGAAAGAUUAAAAACUUUUGAAAGAAAAAAAAUUGAAACAAAUGCUGAUGGUAAAGAAAAGCUCAAAAAUAGAAUUAGGGCCAUUUUGACAAAACAAGCAAAAAUUAGUGACCAAAUUUAUCAUUAAACCUAAUUAUUAUUAUUAUUAUUACUAUUAUUUAAUGCCAAUUAUAAUGGGUGACAGCAAAGAAAAGAGUCAAAAAAGACGGAUUUCUUAUUCAUGUCCACAACAUUCGUCUUUUUAUACAUGUAAUUAUUCAUUAUUUUCUCUUUCUUCUUCUUCUUCACAUACUUUCCCAUUAAUUCCUAUCACAAUUUUGCUUAUUUCUAUUUUCACCUUCUUCUUCACUCUUGUUAAUUUCUUUUCAUCUCCAAGGUCUAUCACUAAUUUUCAAGCAUCCAGUCAAGGAAAUUUCCUUUCAUUUGCUUCAUUCAUGACUAUACAAUGAUUGUUUUUUAUUAUCAGCUACUGUUAUAACAGCUUGCUUUGUAAGAUGGUCAAGGUAAUAAGAUCUGCAGCAAUGGUUUCCUCUAGUGAUUACCAACAGUUUUAGAUUUUAAGACAGGAUGAUCAGCAGACAUAAUCUACUAUAGUUAGAAAUUAAUACCAAAAGAGCUAUACUUUGUAAGAUGGUCAAGCUAAUAAGAUCUGAAGCAAUGAUUUCCUCUACUGAUUAUAGAUUUUAAGACAGGAUGAUCAGCAGACAUAGUUUACUAUAGAUACAAAUUAAUACAAAAAGAGCUACCCAGAAGCAAUAUAAUGUUGAAAUCUCAUGCUGUUGAACAUUUUACCUCUUCAUAUUCUGUAAUGAACUCUUGCACACUUGAAUCUAGCAUGUUAUAUAGUUUGAGGGGUUGAUUCUGGAUAUACAAUGGUGACCAGAAUUUCAUCAUGUUUCUGUCUGCCACCCAUCCAUAGCUCCAUCUAAUAGACGCCAUUGCUUGAAACUUGCAUUCAUGUUUUCCUUUUCAUGCUUACACCGACAUAUCAAUACUUCAUAAAAUAUCCAAUUCAUUCACAGAUUUUCAUUUUCUGCUACUGUUAUAUAUGAUUGCAUUGCAGGGACAUAGCAAUGGAGUACGUAGAGCCUGUUGUCGGCAUUGCAAAUUGUCUCGGAACUCCUGUUUGUAAAUAUUUGCAAUAUCACAGAAAGCUGAACUAUUAUAAGAGAAACUUCAAGAGGAUCAGAGAUGCAUUGAAUUGCAAAAUGGAAGAUAUAGAGCUGCAAUUGAAAGCAAAGCUUCUUCGUCCUCUGGGGAAGAUACCGAAGAAGGGAGUUGAAAAUUGGUUGAAAGCUGUGAAAGAGAUGAUUAGGGAAGCACAAGUUGUUGAAAACAAAGUCAGUAAUGGGAGAUAUCUCUGUCGUGCUUGCAACGGGAAGCUAGUUGAUGAAAAGACUCGAGAAAUGAAGGAAUUUCUUGAUAAUGCUCCUAAUGCCUCUGAAGGUCUUGUCAUGGAUGGUCCAAGUGCUGGGUUGCCACUGCCAACAUCAGAACUAGUUGGAGAAAGAGCUGUCAGAAAUGAGAUUUGGGCAUGUUUGAUGAGGAGGAGGUGAUCAAGAUUGGGGUUUGGGGGAUGGGCGGUGUGGGUAAAACCACUAUCAUAAAGCACAUCCACAAUGAUCUUUUGAAACAGCAAAGAUUCGAAAGGGUAAUCUGGGUUACCAUAUCAAAGGAGUUCAAUGUAAUGACGGUACAAGAUAACAUUGCAAUUGAGAGAACUGAAAUUGUGGAGAUUACGAAAUUUGAAGAGCAUUUGCAGCAAAAAUGGAGUGAUGGUUUGUGAUUCUCUCCAACUUAUCCUGAUUAUUAGAUGUCAUAAACUGGAGAGAAUUCCUCCAUUUGUUCCCCUUGUUGGCAAUGGGCAGCCAUUUGGAUAUGCUCCACCUUCUCUUACCAUCACGUCAAGCACAGAUUGGUGGGAAUCGUUGGAGUGGGAUGACCAUCCAAACUUUAAAAAUGUUCUUCAACCCCUUUGGAAGGAGAAGAGGUAUUGUUAGUUAUUUGCUUAAGGAACGUUAGUUUGAUUUCUUGUUUAUUUGAAAUUCAAUAAAUUUGUUUCACAGUUAGAGCAUAUCCCUAUUUUGAAGGGAAUUGUUAGUAUUCUGAUUCUCAGAAUUGAUAUUUUUGGAAACAACCUACGUUGUAACUCAGCUAUUUAAAAGGCUGAAUACUGAAUAACUUAAAAUAUACAUAUAUACAAAUAAAAACUAUUCUCUGCAGUUUCUUCUCUGUUAAAGCUUUAAACUCUUUCUUGUAUUGCUGCAACUGCAUUUUUAUUAUUAUUUUUUAUUCCAUUUUCUUCAUUUGAAUCUUACAAUUGGUAUCCGAGCUAUUUUCUUAAGGGAUCUGUGUGUGAAAUGGAGACCGAAACCAGCUUUUCUCAAAUUGCUCCUCCUGUUUUUGAUGGUCAGAAUUAUCAUUUGUGGGCAGUAAAGAUGGAAACUUACCUUGAGGCUUUGGAUCUUUGGGAGGCCGUGGAAGAGGAUUACGAAAUACCUCCGUUGCCGAACAAUCCUACCAUGGUCCAAAUCAAAACUCACAAGGAAAAGAAGACCCGAAAAGCUAAGGCAAAAUCAACUCUGUUUGCUGCUAUUUCAACAAACGUUUUCACAAAAGUUCUCACUCUCCGAUUAGCAAAAGAAGUGUGGGACUAUCUCAAAGAAGAAUAUGAAGGAAAUGACCGAAUACGAGGAAUGCAAGUGCUAAAUUUAAUACGGGAGUUUGAAUUGCAAAGGAUGAAAGAGUCAGAAACAAUCAAAGAGUACCAAGACAGAUUGUAUGAAAUUGCCAACAAGGUAAGGUUACUUGGCACUAAAUUUCCAGAUUCUAGAAUUGUUGAAAAAAUUCUUGUAACAGUGCCUGAAAGAUAUGAAGCUUCAAUAACCACCUUGGAAAAUACAAAAGAUAUGUCUAAACUCAGUUUGGCAGAAUUGAUGAAUUCUUUGCAAGCUCAAGAACAGCGAAGACUCAUGAGGCAAGAACAAAUAGUAGAAGGAGCUUUGCUAGCUAGGCACCAGGAAGGAGGAAAGCACAAGAAGAAUACUAAGAGAAAAACACAAGUAACAUCUGCAGCAAAUUCUUCGAACACUCACACUCGAGGUAAGGGUAGAAAAUCAAAGAAAGACUAUCCGCCUUGUCAGCACUGCGAAAAGAAAGGCCAUCCACCGUUCAGAUGUUGGUGGAGACCAGAUGCUAAAUGUACCAAAUGCAAUCAACUUGGACAUGAAGCCGUGGUUUGCAGAAGCAAUAAGUUGAAGCUUGAAGAAGUCCAUGUGGCUGAUCAAGACGAGGAAGAUCAGAUAUUUGUCGCAGCAUGUUUUUCAACUAAAAGUUCUUCAGAAAGCUGGUUGAUUGACAGUGGUUGUACAAACCAUAUGACUCUGGAUAAAACUCUCUUCAAGGAUUUGAAGCCGAGAGUCAUGAAGGUCAAAAUUGGAAAUGGUGGCUAUAUUUCCGCAAAAGGGUCGGGAACCGUGGCAUUUACAACAAGUUCAGGUACAAAAACAAUCUCAGAUGUACUUUAUGUUCCUGAAAUUGAUAAAAAUUUGUUGAGUGUUGGCCAGCUUAUAGAAAAAGGAUUUAAAGUAUCCUUUGAAAAUUCCUAUUGCUGCAUUUAUGAUGUUGCUGAAAAAAGAGAUUUUAUGGGUUAAAAUAAGGGGUAAAAGUUUCUCAUUUGAUCCAAUGGAGGAGGAGCAAAUAGCCUACGUCAACAAAGUUUGCACUACGGAAAUUUGGCACAAAAGGCUUGGUCACUGUCAUCUUCAAAGAAUGCUGAAAAUGAAGAAGAAAGACAUGAUAAAAGGAAUGCCAGAACUUGAUGAUCAUCUUCCAACUUGUGCCGCCUGUCAAUUCGGUAAACAAAAUAGGCUGCCGUUUCCGAAAUCAACUUGGAGAGGUUCUCAAAAGUUGCAACUAAUUCAUACUGAUGUUGCCGGACCACAAAGAACACCAUCUUUACAAGGUAGCAUUUAUUGUAUUAUUUUCAUUGAUGAUUUUACAAGAAUGUGCUGGAUUUUUUUCUUGAAAUUCAAAUCAGAAGUGGCUGGUGUGUUUUGGAAGUUCAAGAAAAUGGUAGAAAAUCAAAGUGGCUGCAAAAUUCAGGUGUUGAGAUCCGAUAAUGGGAAUGAGUAUACUUCGGCAGAAUUCAAUUUAUUUUGCGAAGAAGCUGACAUUAAACAUCAGCUUACUGCUUCAUACACUCCGGAACAAAAUGGGGUCAGCGAGAGAAAGAACAGGUCCGUAAUGGAGAUGGCUAGAUGUAUGUUGCAUGAAAAGAAGUUGCCAAAGACAUUUUGGGCAGAGGCAGCCAACACGGCAGUUUUUUUACAGAACCGACUUCCAACCAAAGCUUUGGAAGACAAGACUUCAUUCGAAGCUUGGUACGGUUAUAAACCUUCACUUAGCUUUCUUAAAGUAUUUGGAUGCAUAUGUUUUGUUCAUGUUCCAAAGGUUAAACGUGACAAACUUGAUAAAAAGGCAAUUCCUAGCAUCUUCGUGGGAUAUAGUUCAGUUUCAAAAGCCUACAAGGUUUAUCAUCCUCAAACCGAAAAAUUGACAAUUAGCCGAGAUGUACAUUUCAACGAGGACGAGCAGUGGGAUUGGAUGAUUUCAUGAAAAAAAGAGAUGUCUCAAGAACCGAAAGGUGCUUUUGAAACAACCGACGAAUGGAUGAUGAUCCUCCAGUUAGAGGUACAAGGCUACUUUCAGAUAUCUAUCAAAGAUGCAAUGUGGCAGUUUGCGAACCAGCCAGCCAUGAUGAUGCAUUAAAAGAUCCAAAAUGGAGGAAAGCAAUGGAGGAAGAAAUGACAAUGAUUAACAAAAAUGAGACAUGGGAGCUGGUAGAAAAGCCUGAAGGGAGAAAAGUUAUUGGAGUCAAAUUGGUGUUCCGAACAAAGCUUAAUGCCGACAGCUCCGUCAACAAAUACAAAGCAAGGCUCGUCGUUAAAGGGUAUGCUCAAAUUUAUGGUGUUAAUUAUUCUGAUACGUUUGCUCCUGUUGCAAGAUUAGAUACGAUCAGAUUGUUGCUUGCAAUAUCGGCACAAAAAGGCUGGAAAGUGUUCCAAUUAGAUGUCAAAUCAGCGUUUUUGAAUGGCGAAUUACAAGAAGAAAUAUACGUGGAGCAACCUGAGGGAUUUGUGAAGCAAGGCGAAGAAGAAAAAGUUUACCUGCUCAAAAAGGCUCUCUAUGGCCUAAAACAAGCUCCAAGAGCUUGGUACAGCAAGAUCGAUGCUCAUUUGUUAAGUCUUGGCUUUGUUAAAAGCUUCUAAGAAUCCACUCUUUAUGUGAAACAUAAAGAAGUAGAUACUCUCAUUGUGUCACUAUAUGUUGAUGAUCUUUUGGUGACAGGAAAUAAUACAAGGCUGGUUGAGAAAUUUAAACAAGAAAUGAUGCAAGUGUUAUGGCUAAAAAAGAUAAUGUGUGACUUGCAUAUGGAGCAGAAAAACGAUACUGAGAUUUUUGUUGACAAUCAAGCAGCUAUUGCAAUCUCAAACAAUCCAGUAUUCCAUGGGAAGACCAAGCAUUUCAACAUCAAACUUUACUUCUUGAGGGAAGUACAACAGAAUGGUGAAGUUACUUUGGUUUACUGCAAGUCUGAAGAACAACUAGCAGACUUAUUUACAAAGUUGCUUCUAGCCAACAUGUUCGAGUAUCUAAGGCAGAGAAUUGGAGUUUGCAGUUCCUUAACCAAGGAGGAGUGUUAGUUAUUUGCUUAAGGAACGUUAGUUUGAUUUCUUGUUUAUUUGAAAUUCAAUAAAUUUGUUUCACAGUUAGAGCAUAUCCCUAUUUUGAAGGGAAUUGUUAGUAUUCUGAUUCUCAGAAUUGAUAUUUUUGGAAACAACCUACGUUGUAACUCAGCUAUUUAAAGGGCUGAAUACUGAAUAACUUAAAAUAUACAUAUAUACAAAUAAAAACUAUUCUCUGCAGUUUCUUCUCUGUUAAAGCUUUAAACUCUUUCUUGUAUUGCUGCAACUGCAUUUUUAUUGUUUUUUUUAUUCCAUUUUCUUCAUUUGAAUCUUACAGGUAUGAACUAUGAACCAUUUAUGGUUUAGUUUAUUUUUUUAUUUUGAUAAAUCUAAUUUCUCCAUUUUAAUACAAUUUCAGGUAUAUUUUUUAUGUUAAUGAAGAGUAAGAUGAAAGGGUUGGUGGGAAAGGAGGAGGGGGAGGAUAGUGCAAAAGAGAGGAGAAAAGGAAUGACGGAAGGAAGAGGUUAAGAGGGUCCACAUUGUAAACAUUGUCCCUCUCUUGCCAUUCCUUCUAUUCUCUUUUUCUUAUAAUGUAAAAGUUAUGCCAAGUAACUGAAGAGGUAAAAAAACAAAUAAAUUUGCUUAAUAUUUUUUCUAUGUUUGUUUUGGAAGAAUGAGUAUUUGAAUAUGGAUAAUAUAGAGAAAUUUGGUAGGGUUUAGAAAUAAGAUCAAGAUGAAAAAUAAAAUAUAAUUUAAAUAUCAGUUGAUAAAUUAAGUCUAUUCAAAAUAAUGGUAUUUUAGAUAGCAAAGGUAUUGGAAAUUUAAAGUGAUAAAUUACCCUUUUAUCAUUAUAAGUAAAUACCAGAAUUUCUUUUUAAAUAAAAUAAAAAAUAUCAUUAUUUCUUCUUUCAACAACCAUUCUAUUCUAAAAAAAAUAUCAUUAUUUCUUUUAGUGCAUUAAGGGGAAUUAUGAUUAUGGUAUGUUAGACAUCAGAAGAACCUAUAUAUUCUUAAAAGUAAAGAUAUGAAAAAGCAGAGUGUUGAAAUGACUAUUCAAUGACAUUUAAAAUAAUAUAUGGGUGUCCAAAAUUCAGAUUCAAUGGCAUAAGCAAAGCAAAUAACAAAGACAAUGUCACCACAGAAACUGUAAACUAAAUGAAAUAUCGUGCAAGGUUGAUCCAGAGAUAAAAAAUAAAAUCUUUAUUUAAAGUUCAAGGUCUUUGAAAUGAAGAUACCCAAGCAAGCAACAAGGUAUCUUCCAAAGCAAUACAUUGCAAAUGAUUCAUAGCAAUCAUGUAGAAUCGAACAAUCAACACUAACUGAUGGAUGCACCAAUGAUACAAACUGUUAAAAUAAUCCAGGUUAAUAAGACUGAAAAUAACAUAUAAUUACACUAAAUGCAUGGUGCAAAAUUAACAUGUUGCAUGUUGUGCCAAAACUAUACUCAAAACUUCAAUAGUAACCUAAGUUGAAUAUAGGUCAAUUUUUUUUGUAACAUAAAUAUGCUACUGCUGGUUUUUACUAAUUCCUAGCACAUAAGUUGCUGAACAGCUCAGUUUAACAAGAAGGUUUAACAGUGUUACUCAAUUGGACUAAUUUCGUUAUCUAUGUUUGUAUGAAAUUUUGCCUACAUACCAAAUCCUUUAAAAUGUUUUACUAAUUUUGAAUAAUAUUAUAAGACAUUGGGGUGAUAAAAAUUAAAUACAACUUUAUGUUUUUGUUAUACCUAAUUAAAGUAUUUUACCAGUAUAUUAGACAUUCUUAUACCCUAGUUUCCCAUACUUUCCCAUUAUUAUCGUGAUGAUGAUAAUGAUGAUGUAACAAUUGAGCACUAAGAUCACUGUAAUACUUGUUUUAAUUGGUAUAAUAAUAAUUUUAGUCCUUUUUUUUCUUAUAUUUUUUAUCAAUUAGACUCUGAUUUUGUAUAAAAUCAUUUAAAAAAAUCAAAAUUUUAAAAAUAUAAAAAUGUUUAUAAAAAUUAUAGAAAAAUAAAAAUAUAGAGAAAUUUUGUAGGGCCCAAAAACAAUUAUCUCUCAUUUUCUCACUUUAUUUAUUUUUGAAAUUUUUAUCUACUUUUAUUUAAUUUUUUAUUUUAUAAUAUUCUAAAAUUUUAAAAAUAAUUUUAAUUUUUUACCAUUUUAUAUAUUUUCAAGAUCAAAUUGACUGAAAGUAUAAAAUUUGAGGAUUAAAAUUGUUAUUAUAUCAAUUAAAAAAGUGUCACUUAACAUUUGAGUGACAAGAAAAAAACAAUUUCAAAAACAUUAGUGAUGAAAUUAUAACUUUUUUAAUUAAGUGACUGAAACAAAAAUACCCAUAUUUUAGUGACUAAUAGUGUAGCCUUUUUUUGGUAAAAUGAAAAUUUGACCCUGAUUUUGUAUUAAAAAAACUCAAAAUUAUUUAUAAAAUAGAAAAAUUAUAUUAUUCAGCAUAGGGAAUUUUUACCCAAAUCAUAUAAAAAUAAUUAAUUAUGAAAAUGGUAUGGAAAAUAAACUAAUUACAAAAAUAAAGCAUUUGAUAUAAUGUUCUGUUGGUGUUCCUGACAUAUUGGUAGUACUAGAUUAAAAUGUGACAACCUAAAAUAUUCAAGGACUUGAUGUAACGCCCCAAAAUUUUAAUUUUGAAUAUUGUGAAUGUGUAACAUAAAUAUCUGUCAACUUUAGUAGUUAUAUGUUCUAAAAGUGUUCGGGAGGUCCCAAGUUCAAGUCAAGAUUUGGGCAAAUUUUGAUAUGUAAAUUUAAAAAAUAUUCAAAGACUUGAUAUGUAAAUUUCUCAUUUUGAUUGGCUGUUGAAAAUAAGCUCUAAAGAUGUUGUGUGACAGUGUGGCGACACAAAAUCUUAAAUAGGGUUAAUUUCUUUGUAAACUAUCAUUGUUUAUUAUUUUGUUUUUAUCUCCCUUCAACACCAAAAUUACAAAAGUUUCCUACCUAUUAAUCCAGUUCAAAUUAUGUCUAGCAUAACCGUUAACAUUAUUGUUAGUAAUUUUCUUUGACUCAUAUAUAUAUAAUAAAUUUUUCUAAAAUUUUUCUAAUUAUAAUUUUAUAGGAUACCGUAAAUUAAAUUGAUAAUAAGAAUAAUUAUAAUGCUAUCUGUAAUGGCAGAAGACAGCAAAGAAAAAGGCUAAAAGAAAAAGUAAUAAAAAUAGGAUUCCUUACUAAUAAUUCUGCCUUUGUGGAUCCUACCACUGACUUCAUAAUUUCCCUGUUUUUAUCUUCACUUUCUUCUUACUUCUUACUUCUUCUUCACUGCUUUUAAUUUGUUUCGAUGUCCAAGGUCUAUCACAAAUUUUGAAGCAUCCUGUCAAGGUAAUUUUCUUUCAUUUGCUUAAUUCAUGACAUGCAUUUCUUUGCUUUUGAUUAUCUGCUACUGUUAUAGCAGCUAGCUUUGUAAGAUUGUCAAGGAAGUCAACUUCACUGCUUCAUUUUCAGUUCUAAUCUCUCAAAACUUUUCAGCCACUAAGUCAGGUAAUAAGAUCUGAAGCAAUGAUUUCCUCUAGUAAUUAUCAACAGUUUUAGAUUUUAAGAGUGGAUGACCAGCAGACAUAAUCUACUAUAGAUAGAAAUUAAUACAAAAACAGCUACCCAGAAGCAAUAUAAUGUUGAAAUCUCAAACUGUCAACAUUUUAACUCUUAAUAUUCUGUAAUGAACUCUUGCACACUUGCAUCUAGCAUUUUAUACACAUCGAGAGCUUGAUUCUGGUGACCAGAAUUUCAUCAUGUUUCUGUCUGCCACCCAUCCAUAGCUCCAUCUAAUAAACGCCAUUGCUUAAAACUUGCAUUCAUGUUUUCCUUUUCAUGCUUACACUGUCAUAUCAAUACUUCAUAAAAUAUCCAAUUCAUUCACAGAUUUUCAUUCUCUGCUACUGUUAUAUAUGAUUGCAUUGCAGGGACAUAGCAAUGGAGUACGUAGAGCCUGUUGUCGGCAUUGCAAAUUGUCUUGGAACUCCUGUUUGUAAAUAUUUACAAUAUCACAGAAAGCUGAACAAUUAUGUGAGAAACUUCAAGAGGAUCAGAGUUGAAUUGAAUUGCAAAAUGGAAGAUAUAGAGCUGCAAUUGAAAGCAGAGAUUCUUCGUCCUCUGGGGAAGAUACCGAAGAAGGGAGUUGAAAAUUGGUUGAAAGCUGUGAAAGAGAUUAUGAGGGAAGCACAAGUUGUUGAAAACAAAGUCAGUAACGGGAGAUAUUUCUGUCGUGCUUGCAACGGGAAGCUAGUUGAUGAAAAGACGCGAGAAAUGAAGGAAUUUCUUGAUAACUCUCCUAAUGCCUCUGAAGGUCUUGCCAUGGAUGGUCCAAGUGCUGGGUUGCCACUAGAAACAUCAGAACUAGUUGGAGAGGAAGCUGUCAGAAAAGAGAUUUGGGCAUGUUUGAUGCAGGAGGAGGUAAGCAAGAUUGGGGUUUGGGGGAUGGGCGGCGUGGGUAAAUCGACCAUCAUGAAGCACAUCCACAAUGAUCUUUUGAAAGAACAACGAUUUGAAAGGGUGGUUUGGGUUACUAUAUCAAAGGAGUUCAAUAUUGUGAAGUUACAAAAUGAUAUUGCAAGUGCAUUGAAUGGAAAGAUGCCCGAAGAAGCAAACAAGGUAAGACGAGCAGCAAUCUUGUCCGAAAUGCUGAAGAGAGCAGGAAAACAUGUUCUAAUCCUAGAUGAUGUGUGGAGUGAAGUCUCGUUGGAAGAAAUUGGGAUCCCUAAGCCAAGUAGCAGCAAUGGGUACAAGUUGGUGUUGACAACCCGUGUGCAGCAAGUUUGUAAGUCUAUGGGCUGUAAGGUGAUAAAAGUGAAGCCCCUUUCAGAAGAAGAGUCAUUGAUACUACUCUUGAGUGAAGUUGGACCUAACAUCGUGCAAAAUCAAACUUUAAUGCCAACUUUGAAGCUUGUUGUCAAGGAAUGUGCAGGUCUGCCUCUUACAAUUGUCGUCAUAGCUGGUACAUUGAGAGGAGAAGAUGACCCUCUUAUUUGGAAAAACACACUCAGGGAAUUGAAAGAGAGAAUAGGGAAAGUGAAAGAAGGGGAAGAUAAAGUGAUCGAGAGUUUGAAAGUUAGCUUUAAUCACUUAAAAGACGAGAAAAUGAAGCAUUGUUUCUUACAUUGCUCAUUAUAUCCUGAAGAUUUUCAAAUUGGAAAGGAUGGGCUAAUUGAGUGCUGGAUUGAAGAGGGAUUCAUAGAUGAUAUGACUACAAGACAAGAAAUGAAAGAUAAGGGCCAUGUUCUUUUGAAGAAAUUAGAAGAUAAUUGCUUGUUGGAAAAUGUCUCGAGUAAAAGAGUGAAAAUGCUUGAUGCAGUGAGAGACAUGGCAUUGUCGAUCACAAGAAUGAAUCCUUGAUAUAUGAUACAAGCAGGUUCGCAAUUAUAAGAGUUACCAGAAAAGGAGCAAUGGAGUCCGGAUAUUGAGAAAGUGUCACUUAUGUAUAACUCCAUAUUAGAAAUUUCCAUAGAUGUGCUGCCCACAAAAUGUCAACUCUCACAACCUUGUUAUUGCAGGGUAGCCCUAUAAAGAAGAUCCCAUAUUCUUUCUUCACAAACAUGCCCUAUCUUAGUGUUCUCAAUUUGUCCACUACUAAGAUCAAGAGUCUACCAAAUUCCAUCUCUGAACUAAAGAACCUCACAACAUUGUUGCUUUGUGGCUUCGAGAAUUAAGAGAUCUGCUCCAAAUGAACCAAAUCCACUCAACCUAUUACUGAAACUUCAAGGAAAAUGUGAGAGCAUAGAUUAAUUAUUUUUUCAUAAGUUAAUUGCACCAAAUAUUUAAAUUAUUACCUGCAUUCUAAAUUAAUUCAUUAAAUUUUAAAUCAUUUUAGUUACAUUUCUAAACUAAAGAGAAUAUAUCAAUUAAGUUUUUCUUUUUUUAAAACCAUUAAUUUAAUGAUAAAAGGACAUCUUCAGUCACUCUCAAUUUUAAAAUUGAGUAAAUUAGUCACUUUUAAAAAAAUUGGAACAAUUUAAUCUCUGUCAAUUUUGAAAGUGAGCAACAAAGGACAAUUAAUCACGAGGUUCAUGUCUUUCAUCAAUUGUGCAUAAUUUUGAUUGGUACAAUAACACAUUUAGCCCUUGAUGUUUACAUAUUUUGUUAGUUUGGUCUUAAUUCUAAAAAAAAUCAAUAAAUUCAGUCUCAACAUUUACACAUUUACGAAAAUAUGACGGGCUAAAUUUGUUAUCAUAUCAAUCAAAUUUAUGUAAAAUUGAUGAAAAACAUUAAUAUUGUGAUUAAUUGCUCACUUUCGAAAUUAGUAGGGAUUAAAUUGCUUCGAUUUGUUUAGAGGGACCAAGUUACUGAAUAUCAUAACUGAAAGGGACUAGAGAGGUUGUUUUACCUAGUUUAAUAAUUAAAUGACAUGUUAAAUCUUAUGUGACAUAAUUUAAAAUGAAAAUUUGAAAAAAAGAAGAAGGAAGAUUGUAAAAAUAGUUGUUUUAAAAAUCAUGGCUUUGAAGUUUUUACAAAUUUUUUAUUGCUCAUUUUUUUAAAAUUUCAGUUUUAUUUAAUUUUAGUUUCUUAAAAAUUUUCAUUUUAAAAUUAGCUAUAUAAAAUUUACCGUGUCAUUUAAUGAUUUUAAUAGUAAAAUGACAUGAUUAAUAUAACAUCAAUAGUUUAGAAAUGUAAUUAGAUAAGUUUGAAGUUUGAAAAUAGAUUUAAAAUAAUGGUCAUAAUUUAGGGGUGGUUGAUGUAAUUAACUCAUUUCUAAUGGUACUAAUAAUUAAGGCUGCUAUAGGACAAAGUGAAAAAGUGGAAAGCAGGGUUAAAAUAUGACUCAAAGACUCACCUUUUUCUAAGUUUGCCAUUACCAAACGAUGAAGCAAAAGAAAUGAAGGGCCAUUACCAGAAUUUCAUCAUGUUUCUGUCUGCCACCAAUCCAUAGCUCCAUCUAAUAAACGCCAUUGCUUGAAACUUGCAUUCAUGUUUCACUUUCAAUCAUUUUCGUGUCCACCUUCAACCAUCAGCCAUCACUCACCAUUGCUUAAGCUAUUUUGCAUUUUAGACCAUAAAUUACUGAGUUGAAAACUCUAGUGUCCUUCUGCAACCUUUUUUGGUCCAGGCAGGGCAGGCUGGGCUCAAAAAUUUGGGUCGACCUUGAAUAAAACAUUUAAACCCAUUUUUCAUAUUAGGCCAAGCUUGAGUAAAAAUAACAGUUAGCAAUACCUUUGUUGGAACAAUGGCAGCAGCAAACAUCAAACAAAGUUGCAAAACAGAAUUUGCAAAACUGAAGCAAGAAGAAUCGAAGCAAAGAAGAAACAAGCAAGCAAAGCAGUGAACAAAGUUGAAUACUCAGCAAAAUUGUAACUGUAACACUUUUCAUUCAAAAUUUGAAUAUAUAAAAGGUUACAAUUUUUGAAUCAUUUGACAGUUACCUAAUGACAUAACUGCUCCCACUUAGCUAAACUAAAACAUGCUUAAGUCAAAUACAAAAUAAGCUGACAUAUCAGCUUUUACAUCAUCAAUCCAAUCACUAGCUUAUUCCUACUUACUUUGUAAGCUAGUUACAAGAGAACAAAACUAAAUAACAUUAAAACAAAACAACAAAAACUGGUUGCUUCAUUUGGUCCAAAAAACCAGUCUUGCGCACCAAGCAAAAUGAGCUGAGCUCGAUAGCUGCUGCUGGUCUAAACAGUAGCUUGCUGCUGGCUUCAUGUUGCACUGCAGUCCAGCUCUCAACACUCCUCCUUGGACUGUAUGCAACACAUUCCAAUUUCACCUCUCAAUGAUUCAAAUCGAGCAGCCCCUAAGGGCUUGGUCAGUAUAUCAGCCAAUUAUGUCCCUGAGCUGCAAUGCACAAGGCUGACUUCCUUUGCUUGUUCAGCCUCUCGAACAAAAUGCAGUUUAAUUUUAAAAUGCUUGGUUUUACCAUGAAACACAGGGUUCUUGGCUAUGGCAACUGCUGAUUGGUUGUCCACCCAAAUUUCAGUUGCAUCAGCUUGUGUUUCAUUGAGAUCCUGAAGCAGCUUCCUAAGCCAAAUGGCCUGAUUGACUGCUGCUGAUGCAGCAAUGUAUUCUGCUUCAGCUGUGGAUUGAGCAACUGUUUGUUGCUUCUUUGAACUCCAGCAAAACAUGCCCGAUCCAAGUGUGAAGAAGUAUCCAGAGGUACUCUUCAUGUCAUCGAGGGAUCCUGCCCAGUCACUAUCAUAGUAGCCUUCUAGUUUUAGUUUCUUCCCACUUUCGAACAUCACACCAAGGCUAGCUGUGCCUUUGAUGUAUCUAAGAACCCUUUUUGCAGCCUUCAAAUGUGUCUCAUUACAGCAAUGCAUGAACCUCGAUAGCAGACUGACACCAAACAUGAUGUCUGGCCUGGUUGCUGUUAGAUACAACAGACAACCUACUAGGCUUCGAUAGUGUCUCUCAUCAACCCUUUGCUGAUCACCACUACUGGUCAACUUUUCUCCAUGAGCCACAGGUUUACUGACUACUUUACAGUUGUGCAUGCAAAAUUUGCCUAAAAUCUUCAAAGCAAAUGUGUGUUGGCUGAUGAAGAUACAUCGAUCAGACUGGUGAACUUCCAUGCCAAGGAAGUAAGUCAUGAUCCCCAAAUCUGUCAUCUCAAACACUUGCUGCAUUUGAACCUUGAACUCAUCAAUGAGCUCAACUUUGUUCCCUGUCACUAACAGGUCAUCCUAUACAAGGAGACAAUCAACAAGGUUUCAAAUUCUGACCUCUUAACAUAUAGAGUAGGUUCACUAAGGCUCUUUACAAAUCCAAGCUUGGUCAGGUAAGCAUCAACUCUGUCAAACCAGGCCCUUGGUGCCUGUUCCAGACCAUAGAGGGCCUUUCUCAACUUGUACACUUUGUCUUCAUGUCCAGCAACUUCAAAACCUUCAGGUUGCUCGAUGAAGAUCUCCUCCUUGAGAAAACCAUUCAGGAAUGCUGAUUUAACAUCCAAUUGGUGAACUCUCCACUGCUUCUGAGCUGCUAAAGCAAAUAGUAGCUUGAUUGUGUCCAGUCUUACCACUGGAGCAAAGGUCUCCAAGAAGUCCACACCAUACUGCUGACUGUAACCCUUCACCACAAGCCUGGCCUUGUGCUUGUUCAGUGAGCCAUCAGUAUUGUACUUGGCCCUGUACACCCAUUUAACCCCAAUAACCUUCUUAUGUUAUGGUCUGCUCACCAGUUCCCAUGUUUCAUUUUUAUUGAUCAUUUCCAGCUCAGCUUCCAUAGCAUUCAUCCAGCUUCUGUCCUUGGCAGCCUCUUCAAAGUCUGAGGGCUCAAUCACAGCAACAUUGCACCUCUGGUAGACAUCAGCUAAAGUUUUGGUGCCCCUCACUGGUGUAUCAUCAACAGCAUCUUCACUUGGUCUCUCUUCUGCUGAUUCAAUAACCAAGUCUAACUGGUCCAAUUCAGACAAGUCAGCCUCAACAUCAUUCCAAUUCCACACUUUUUCCUCAUCAAACUUUACAUCCCUACUGACUAAAACCUUCUUUGCUGUAGGAUCAUACACUCUAUAGCCCUUCUUGUUGCUGCUGUAGCCAACAAAGAUUCCUAGAGUAGCCCUGCUCUCGAGCUUGGUCCUCUUUUCCACUGGAAUAAGAGCAUAACACACACAGUCAAACACUUUCAAGUGUGUUACCACAGGUUUGACUCCAUGCCAGGCCUCAAAAGGAGUCUUAUUCUUGACUGCUCGAGUUGCCAGUCUGUUGAGCAGAUACACUGAGGUGUUGACUGCCUCAGCCCAAAACUGACUUGGAAGCCUGCCUUGAAACAAGAGGCACCUGGCCAUGUUCAGCACAGUCCUAUUCUUUCUCUCACAGACUCCAUUCUGUUGAGGAGUAUAGACUGUUGUGAGCUGAUGGUGAAUCCCAGCACUGUCACAAAGCUUCUGAAAUCUCUCAGACACAUAUUCAGAGCCAUUAUUAGUCCUCAAGGCUCUAAUUUUACAGCCUGACUGAUUUUCAGCAUAUGCCUUGAAUUUGCAGAAGGCUUCAAACACUACUGACUUCUACUUCAAGAAGUAGACCCAGCACAACCUAGUUAAAUCAUUAGACCCAGCACAACCUAGUUAAAUCAUCUAUGAACAGGACAAAGUACCUGUUCUCAUUGAUUGAAGGCAUUCUCAUAGGACCACAGACAUCAGAUUGCACCAAUUCGAGCUUGUUUUGAGCUCUCCAAGCACUGUCAGCAGGAAAAGGCAGUCUAGCCUGCUUACCAAGCUGACAAACCUCACAAACAUUCCCACUAACCUCAAUUUCUGAAAUGUCAUCAACUAAAUUCAGCCUAUGUAGCAGAUCAAGAGAUCUGAAAUUGGCAUGGCCUAGUCUCCUAUGCCACAAGUCAGUGCUGUCAGCAAGGCUGAUGUAUGCCUUUCUUUCUACUUGGCUAACAUCCAGCAUGAAGCAUCUAUCAAUCAUAGAGACUGAGAUUAACUCCAGACCAUUCAUGUCUUGAACAGUACAGCAACCAUCCUUAAAAACCAAUGUAUAGCCCUUUUCAACUAAUUGGCCUACACUAAGCAAAUUCUGGUCUAAGUCAGGUACAAAAAGCACAUCUGAGAUCAGCUUGUUACCUGAACCAGUGCUAACCAGCACACUACCCUUGCCCUUAGCCUCAAUCAGCUUGCCAUCUCCAAUUUUGAUCCUCGAGUGGAAGCUUCUGUCUAAGCCCUUGAACAGCUUCUCAUCUGCUGCCAUAUGGUGUGAGCAGCCACUGUCUAGUAACCAAUCGUUGCUGGCCUUUGUUGUGCCAACAAAACAGGUUGCUGUGAACACAUGCUCCUCCUGAGCUUGCAUGUCCUCAGCUGGUCUAGCUUGUUGUAGAGCAGCCUCCCUUGGUUUGCCCUUGCACACCUUCUCCACAUGGCCAAACUGCUUGCACUUUCUGCACUGAAUAUCUGGCCUAAACCAGCAAUACUUUUCUGAAUGUGUUGUCUUCUUACAGUGAACACAUGGUGGGAACACCCUUUUUACUUCAUCUCUUCCUGACUUGACCCUUCUAUUAUGCCAAGGCUUCUUGUCUUUUGCACUCACACUCAAGCCUUCACUAGCUUUAGCCUGGAAGGCGGCUUCAGGAUUCUCCUCCUGCCUAUUUGCCCUCCUUUGCUCAAGUGCAUACAGGGAGUUUAUCAGCUCUGAUAAUGAAAUGGCUGAUAAGUCCCUCGAGUCCUCAAGUGAAGAGAUUUUUGACUCGAAUUUCUCAAGGAGAGUUGUGAUGACCUUUUCAACAACUCUGCUCUCUGUGAAGUCCACUCCCAGGAGCCUAAUGUUGUUGACAAUGGCCAUUAUCCUAUUUGAGUACUGCUUGAUGGUUUUAGACUCCUUCAUCCUCAAAUUUUCAAAGUCUCUCCUGAGGUUGAUCACCUGCUGUUGCCUUGUCUUGUUUGUGCCCAUGAACUCCUCUUUUAGCUUGUCCCAGGCCUGCUUUGGUGUGUCACAGGCCAUGAUGUGAGUAAAGAUCACAUCAGACACUCCAUUUUGCAGACAGGCCAUAGCCUUGUGCUUCUUGGCUCGUUCCUCAGCAUGCUGCCUCAUCUGUGCAAUGGUGGGAUUGGCUCUCAAUGGAGGUGGUUCAACAUCAUUCUCGAUCACACUCCAAAGAUCAUGUGCCUAGAGGUAAGUCUUCAUUUUAACUAUCCAAAUGUGAUAGUUCUCUCCAGUGAACACUGGUGGAGGUGGUGGAGUGAAACUCAUCUUGCUAGACUAAGUUUAAGUGCUUCGAUCCUUUUUAGUUUUAAGCUUUGCUAUUGGUUUUGAUUUGAACUCAACAGAAUGCAAACAAAGGCCCCUCAAAGAUACGGGCUCAUGAUACCAUUUAUUGGAACAAUGGCAGCAGCAAACAUCAAACAAAGUUGCAAAACAGAAUUUGCAAAAUUGAAGCAAGAAGAAUCGAAGCAAAGAAGAAACAAGCAAGCAAAGCAGUGAACAAGUUGAAUACUCAGCAAAAUUGUAACUAAACAUUAACGCUUUUCAUUCAAAAUUUGAAUAUAUAAAAGGUUACAAUUUUUGAAUCAUUUGACAGUUACCUAAUGACAUAACUGCUCCCACUUAGCUAAACUAAAACAUGUUUAAGUCAAAUACAAAAUAAGCUGACAUAUCAGCUUUUACAUCAUCAAUCCAAUCACUAGCUUAUUCCUACUUACUUUGUAAGCUAGUUACAAGAGAACUAAACUAAAUAACAUUAAAACAAAACAACAAAAACUGGUUGCUUCAUUUGGUCCAAAAAACCAGUCUUGCGCACCAAGCAAAAUGAGCUGAGCUCGAUAGCUGCUGCUGGUCUAAACAGUACCUUGUUGCUGGCUUCAUGUUGCACUGCAGUCCAGCUUUCAACAACCUUGUCUAAGCCUGAGCCAAAUCCGGCCUAUGAGAUAAACCAUUCAGUAUGAGAUAAACCAUUCAGAUUGAACUACCGGUAACAUUAUGAGUUUCUGGUCCAUCCUUCAUGAGGAUGCAAAGAACAAAAUUAACUAACCUUUGCCACUAUAGAAUGUUUGUUCAACUAAAUAAAAUAAAGAUUGUCCUAUAACUCUAGUUCCAUUCAAGUUAAAACUUCUUCAGGCAAGAUAAUAGUAACAUAAUGCUAAAAGAACCAGCACAACCACCACAGCAGGAGCUGCCCAUAUCCAAUAGUUCAUCGACUUUUUCUGUUUCAGGAUGGCUUUUGGGAGGGACUCGGUUCUUUUGGUUCAAUUCCUGUACCUACUAGUAUUCUCCUUUGGUACUUUACCCUUCAUUGAAACGGUAGCAGAAACAGGUGCAUCAGUAUUAACAUCGACCUUCUCGGGUUCUGAAUCUUGUGCCACAGCUUCAAUCGGUUCUUCGGGAUUCACAGCAUUUGUCGAUCCUGCCACCUUCUUCUUAGCUCUCCUUUCACGCUCCUGAAAAAAAGAUCGAAAGAGUUUCAGUUUCAACCCACAAACUAAUAACCGAUAAAGUGAAACCAGAUAAGGAAGCAAAUGAUUUCCUUGAGCUUCUUUUCGGCUUCCAUUUGAGCUCUUCUAGCUGCUUUGGCUACUGCUUUUUCAGCCAACUUCUUUUUUCUUUCCAUGGCUUGCUUUGCUUUCGCUAUUUCCUCUUCUCUCUUCAAUUCUUUCAAUUCUUUCAGUUUUGCUGCAUUCGACUCCAUUGCUAUAGUCUGGGCAUCUUUUGGGGCCUUUUUGACUAGUUUAGUAUCUCUUUGGGGACCUGAUUUGACCUCUUCCUUUGGUUGUCUUACACUAGGUCUCAGAAUUGUUUCAGUUUCAGAAUCCACUGGUUUCUCGGGUGCAACCAGUGGUUUCUCAUCAGGAUUCCUUAUCCGACCAUCCCGACUCUAUAGCCGACUGUCCAGGGAUGGCAGAAUUCUUUUCUCAUAAUCAUCCCUGAAGGCUUUAUUGCCAUUCCAGAGAGCCAUAAACUUCUCAACCUAAAUUUAUAAAGCAAAUGAGAUACAUUGGAAGUAACAUUAACAAGCAGUCUCAACAAACCUCCACAAUUGAUAACUCCUCAAGAGCCUUAUAUCUUCCUGUGCAGCAAGCAGUUUGGCGUUGUGUACAAUGGUACGGCUCUGGUAAAAGUGAAAAUUUUGAAAUUUUGAGAAAGAAAGUAAUUAAAACGAUUCAUUAGUAACAUCAUGCACAGGAAUAUUGGAAGUAGACAUAGUAUAUAUCAUUUAAUAUCUUAAGCGAUACUAGUUAUUCAUGCAUAAAUGAAAAUGUUCCGACAUGGUAAAGUAUUAUACGAAACAGAUAUCUUAAGAGUUGAAGCAAAGAAAAGGCUAUACCCCCUAAUCAAUUUGUUUCCUCAGCUCCUGAAUGUAUUCAAAAGCUUUGUCCCUCUUCAAGGUCAUAGCUUUCAGCUCAUUUUGUAAAGACUCGAUUUUAGUCUCAGUUUCAUCCAAUUUAUCUUUAAUUUGCUUUUUUUUUGGACCAGACUGCAUGCUGCUCCUUCCUUACUCCAUUCAAAUCAACACCCAUAAGCUACAAUAAACAAAUAUAGCAUUUUUUUUAGUGUAACACAAUGGUGCUCGAUAUUCACAGAAAAAAAGAGGAGCAAACUCCGAUGGAUAAAGGCAGAAAAUAGAAUUAUCUUACUUUAACUUGAUCUUGAAUGUCUUCUUUCUGGCCUAAUGAAUCUUGAGUCUUUGAUCUCAUUGCAGCAUUAGCAAUAACUUUCUCGCGGGUUCCCUCCAGGUGUUUGAUUGCUUUAAGGAUUCGCUUCUCCUCACUCAACGAGAUGCUUUCAUGCUGAAUGCGAUAUUGCAAGCUAUGAAUCUGCAAUUCAUAAAUUCCAUUGAAGUGACUAAGGGAGAAAAAGAAAAGCAUUAACUGCGGCAGAAAACAAUGAAUAAAUCUAAAUGCAGUUAAAGUUUAUAGAAGUAUCAUACAAUAAAAUCGAGCUCUUCCUCGGAUGCACAUAAACUAAGUCGAUUAUCAACAUCUUUAUUAUUGCGAAGCUUGCCUAAAGCCUGCUGCAGUGGUUCUAUUUCCCUUUUUUUCUCAUCUAAAAUCAUCUUAAAUUGCUCAAAAUCAACAUUCAGCGCUCUCACUUGCGAAAGCAUCUCUGAUCGUUCUGCCUGCAUUAGCAUAAAGAUAAUCACAAUUUAGCCAACUGACAGCGCCAUUAUUUUUUACUUCUUUCACAUUUUUUCUCAAAUUCUGAAGGCAAACACAACAAUAACGAAUCAUUAUACCAAUAGCAUAUCUGUAAGUGUCAUUACAUUUCGAGGACAUACAUUUCGAACAUUCAAAUAAAUGCUUCCGGGUUUAAUUCCCCUACAUCCAUCAUAUUACAAAAAGCACACCGUAAUGACAUAAUGAUAGGGCUAAUAAUUAUCUUAAAAGUAUGACAAUUAAUGGCUACCAUGCUAUACAUCUAAUUGAAAUUUAUAACUUUUCACUCACCCUUUUUGCUUUUAAUUCAUCGGUAAGCUUAAACCUGGCUUUUUUCCACUUUUGUAUCUCUUUAUCAGCCUGAUCAAGUUUGGCUUUUAUAGCUGGAUCUUCGUAGAAGCGAUACCUAAUAAAAUGAAAAGAGUGGAUCUGCUUAGGUGCAGGCCACUCGUCGACCGCAUCCUUCCGAAAGUCGGGAUCGGAUGCACCAUCCUUUUCUUCCUUAUCUGGUUCCUCACUAUGUGAAUCAACAUCAAUGGGGUUAUUAUAAACUGGAUCCUUAUCCAGUUUCCCAUUUUCAUGAAGAAAUGAUUUGUCUACUUCAGUCACUUUGUCAAUAGACAAUUGUGCCAGGCCUGAAUCAACAACCUCAACACCCAUUAAACACAAAAUUGAGCUACCUGAAAACAUCCAAAAACAAAGAUUAUGAUACCAUAUAACAACAAAUAUAAAUAUAAAAUAUUAUUUCAUUCAUAAAAUAAAAAUUUUAAAACCAGACACCUGAUAGACAUGUAUAAAACAAUAUAUAUUAAAUAAAUAAAUUUUAAAGAACAGUGUAGCCAAUACAAUUUGAAAUGGUGCAAUCUAAAGUCAUUCCUUUAGCUAGUUUUCUCAUUAAUCAGAUCAAAAGAGUGAACAAACAGUAGAAUUGCAAAAAUAUAUGUAUAUAUUCUAAAUAAAUGAUAAACUAUAAUGGAGAAAAACAAUAAUCAGAUAAAAUCUAGAUCAAAAACUAAAUUAUAAGUACAUUAGCUCAUGCUAUAACAAAAGAUCAAGCCUUUAUCCGUCAAGAAAAUUAACAUGCAAAAUCAUAUGACACUAAUGGAAAAGAAGGGGGAAAGAAACCCAGAAAUUUACAAACAUGAGAUAAAAUGAAAAAAAAAACCCAGAAAUAAAAAUAUGAGAAAUAAUUAUGUAGUUUGUAAGGCUAGAAAGUUUACAUUUUUAAAAUGAAAACGUCAAAAUAGGAUGUUUUUGUUGUCUAGAGAGGCAAUAGAUAUAGAGGUUUUGAGGUUCUGGAUAAAAAAAAAACUUCAACUUUUUUUAUUUUACAUUGGCGUAAUGCCCAUAUUUUAUGAAUUCUAGUUGUUAAACAUGUCAAGUAAUUUGAUUUGGCAUGGUGGUUAAGUGCCUUGAAUGUUUGUUUUAGGUCUUGGAUUCAAUGUUUUUUUUGUUAAAUUUUUCCUAUUUAUUAUGGUAUUAUGUUCAACUUGAGCCUUAGGGCUUCUCUUAUUUUCAAUGAUGAAUCUACUGAUUCAGUGGUAAGAUUUUAGCUUAUCACCAAUUAAAUUUUAUAAAAUCUGCUAAGUGAAAUUUAGAUUAACAUAAAUCUUUUUAUUUAUUUAUUUUAAUUUAAUUUUACUAAAUCUCUAUUUUCACUCAUUGUUUCAACCGUUUACACUCUCACCCCACUUCGUACGCUACUUUCUUUUGUUUCCCUAUUCUGUCGUUUUAUCUUCUUUUCUCUACCUUUUUUCUCCUCUUUGAUUGUUCUUGAAUACUAUUUUUUAUUUUGUGAGUUCUGUCACUUGGAUCGUAUUCUGUUUGCAGUGUAAGUUUCAUUUGGUUACUUUUGUUCUCUUCCCAUUAAUAGUUUAGUUUUAUUUCGUUUCUUGAACAAUUUGAGUUUGUGUUGGUAUUUUCUGUUCAUUAUCAUGAUUAGUAUUUUUGUGGUUCUCGAUUAGGCAAAAGGUGUGAGAAUCCUAACCCUCCAACAAAGUAGUCACAAUUUUCGACGUUGGUUUGAGAACUAAGUAUUUGAAUUCUAUUUUAGGGGCUGAAAUUUUGAUUCAACGAUGUUAUUUUCAAUAAGUAUUGUUAGUUAAUCCGUGUGGUUUGAUGAACGUUUAUAGGAUUCGUGAGUUCCAAUUGAGCGGUUGAUCAAACCAACAAUAGGUGUAUGAAAUUAACCUGAAAACUCAAUCGAAACUCGAGAAAAUUAAGGGCCAUACGAAUAUGUGUAUUUUGGCCAAUUUUAAGCCCCAAUUAGGGGCUGAUUAAAGGACUCAAAUAUUAGUCCAUAGCCAUCAUAUAAGCCCAAAAAAAUGUAAGUUUUAGUAUGUAUAUAUACAUGGCUAAGCUUAGGAGGUAUGUUAAGUAGGUUGUAUACAAAUCACAUGCUAUGUUAUGUUCCUUAUAAAAAUAUGUGUAUGCAUGUCAUACGACUUAUGAUAUAUGUAUUUAUGAUAUUAUAAUUAUGAUUAUGCCUAUGUUUUGGGAUGGGUUAUGAUAUGAUGAAGUAUUAUAUGGUAGUUUUUACUACAACCAUGGCAACUAGACCAUAAAAUGUCUAUCUGACAGCUUAGUUGCAUAUUUAUGAGUGGCAUACCGUCACAUAUUGGUGUGAUUGGAUGGAUGGACUCUUAUAGUCCUAAUUAGUGAUAUUGCUUGGACGGAGAUAGCAUGUAGCAGUUGGAGGUAUGAUAUCAUAUGAUAUGAGAUAUGAUAGGAUAAGAUAAGAUAUGAAACAAGCUAUAACAUGAUCUGAAAAUCGAUAUGAUAUAAGAUAUGCUUCGAUAUGCUAUGAUACAUUCUGAUUUUGUAACGCCCCAAAAUUUUUAAUUUUGUUAUUGUGAAAAUAUGAUACAAAUAUCUGUCAACUUUAAUGGUUAUGUGUUUUGGGAGUGUUUGGAAGGUCCAAAGUUCAAGCUUUUGCUUGGGCAAAUUUUGGUAUUUUGAAUGAAUUAGGCUUUACUCUUAUUCAGUAGGCUUUUAUUUGAUUGCUGGGUAAAUUACAUUAGAAUGAGCUUAUUGGUCUAAUGGUUAAAUGGUGUGUUAUUAAGGUGGAGGUCUUGUGUUUGAAUCUCUAUGUAAGCAAGAGUAUUUUUUUUUUGCUCAGAUUUCGGGAUAGAGUUGUGUAAUAGGGAGAUUCUGAGUAGUGGAUCCUUAGUGGGAAUUAGGGGAGAAUAUUAAGGGAUUUUGGGGGUUAUCGGGAUUUUAAUUUAUUUUUUCCCAUAAUCGAACUCUCUUUUCCAAAAAAAUUCUGCCGUAUAUUCUUAUCCCUCUCCUCUUGCCAAAAUUCUCUGAGUUUUUUCAUCUUUCUCUUCUUUUUCUUCUUCUUGAUUUCUCCCUAAUCCAUUUAUUUUCCUUCGUUUUCGCACGCGGUUACUGCUCGCUUAGUUUCAGUAAGUGUUUCUCUUCGUUUCUGUCAUGAAUCUCCUAGCGACUGAAGUGGUAAUAUUUUUCUCUAUGAUUUGGACGUAGGGGGAGGCUCGAACUGGUGAAUUCAGUAUUCUCAUCUUAACAACAGUUAAACGGAGGGUUAUCGUUGGUUGUAAGUUGAGUUUUUGUUCGUUCUUGGUUGUCAAUUCGCUUGUAAAUCCAUUAAAUUGAUGUUGAGUAUCUUGAUUAUAGGUUUUGGAGUGCUUGAGGACUGUUUUAGCAUCAAACAAAACCAGGUGUGUACCCAAAACGCAAAAAAAAAGGAUUAGGUGAAAAGUCAAAAUUGCUUGCUAUUUAGACAAUAACAGUAGGCUAACUUUGAAAAAUCGACAUAAAUUGUGAAAAUCGAAUUAGAGGAUGAAAAAAAUAUGGAAUUAAAUUUUAUUUAGUCUAGUUUCUCAUAAAAGAAACAGUGUAAGUAGUUGAAUUCUAAAUCGUGAGAUAUAAUAAACUUUGUGAGACAAUGUCAGAAUGAAUUUAGGUUCCCCUAUUCUGACUUUGGAAAAUUAUCAAAACUGGGAGAAAAAUAAUUAGGGGUUAAAAUUUACAUGUUUAAAUUAUUAACGAGUCUGUUUUCAAUAGAAACAAAUGGGAACUUCAUCCAAAUUUGUACUAAGAGGUAAUUAAUUUUUAGCAAAGAAUGGUCGAAGUUGUCAGACAACAGAAUAAGGGUAAGUUUGAAGAUUUUACUGUACUUAUUGGCUGAACCAAAAAUUCUAAAAAUUUUAUGGUAGAAAGGUAUCUGAGUCUAUUUUCAAAGAUAUUAAGUGGAUUUUAAUUCGAAAUUCUAUAGCUCAAGAUAUAAAUAAUUUAGUAAUAGUGACUCAAGUAGACGGCUUUAAAGGAACACAUAAGUAAAUAGUGAAAAACAUAUAUAAAUAUUUAGCUAGCACGGGUUACAUUAAAAAUGGAUCACGCGGCCAAAGCCAAUUUGGGCUGAAUAAGCCACAUGGGCGUGUGAGCCCAUUUUUCUGAAAAGUUCUGUAAGGUUGCACGGGUCGCCCAAGUCGAUUGUGGAUCUACUGGAGGGUCGGUAAGCUCUACUUAGAACCCUAUAUGUGUGAUCUAUCUGACUGAUUUCUAUACUGAGCAUGACUAAUGAUAUCUGAAUGUAUGUACUAUUAAUUGCAUAAUGGCAUGACAUAUUUUGUAUGUUGCAUUGCAUCGGGGUGGGUUGAUGAUAUUUGGAGGAAGUGUCUGAAAGGCUAUUAAGCCUGUUAUCUGGCAGCUUAGCUACAACCUUUUGAUUAUAUGCUGCAUUUCGGUACAGCAUGGUGUGUAGGGAUGUGUGGCUUGAUUUAAUCCCCACAUGGUGUGUAGGGUUCGACGGAGAUGGUGUGUAGAGGCUAGUGGGUAGGAUUCUAAUUUACUGUAUCUGCAUUCUAUAUCUGAUAUGAGUCAAGGCCCUAAUGUAUUUUUGAGACUGUAUCUGAACGGGCUAAGGUCCAAAUUGAUUAUGUUGAUCAUCUAUAUGCAUGUUUUCUGUGAGGAUUACACACUGAGUUUGCGAAAACUCACCAGCAGAGGACUCGACGGUGGACACACGUAAAUUUUGGACUGUUUUCCGUUAAUGCAUAGAAUUUAUUACUUAUUUGAGGUUUUUGAUGUAUCUUCUGGACUAUGGAUUGGUUGGCUUUAAAUUUUGGGAUUUUAUACUAUUUUUUAUGGGUUUUUUUUUAAAUUACAACUCCACAAAACACGGUUUUUUUUCUAAAAAACUAAGGAUUUUCGUAAAUAGAAAUGAUUUUCCCUAAAUUAAUUGGUUACAAAAGUUUUCGCUAACAGACAAAUUUUAAAGCAAAUCAACAAGUUUUUUUUCUGAAUUAAAUAAAAGCUAACUUACUGUAAUGAUUUUUAAACUCGACAAUCUUGUCUUCAAAUCCCUUUCCAUGUGACAUCGCCAGAUUCGGCCAUAAUGUCUAGGCCGAGUUUGGGGUGUUACAAAAUUAAUCAUACUUGAUUGGAUUAUGAGAGUGACUUUUAAUGAAAGAUAAUAUGUGAAGAAAGAAGAGAACUAAAAGGGAAAUUGCACCAAAAUAUAAAAAUAAAAAAAUAAUGGCAGAUUGCUUCAAAUGCAAUAGACGCAAGAAUGUGCUAAAUUGUCUUUUUAAAUUCAAAGUGUGUAUUCAUGCCACAAUUAAAAACCUUUAUAUACCGAUCCCAGAGAACCAAUUUCACAUGAUUAUACUCCUAGAAUCAUGCUUAACAAGCAACCACUAAAUCAAAAUUUUCUAAAUAUAGAAUUUGUCAAAGUAAAAAAUCUAAUAUUUUUUAUCAACCCAAAAAUAAUUUUGCAACUUUCAAUUCAACCCCCCAACUUGUUUUUUGUUCCAAUUUAGCUCGAUCUGUUUGUUUUUGAACUUCAGCACUCCAAUUGUGUCCAUGAUAAAAUUCAGGCAAUAAAUCAUAAGUUUAGUAGAAUUCCAUUAAAAAGUUUACCAAAAUUGGGUAUAUUAAAUAUAAAAAAUUAACUUGCUAUCAGAUUUGGAACUAAUUAAUUAUAACAUAUGAAAUAUGUAUUAUAUUAAAAUAAAAAUUAGAAUAAAUUGUGAGUAAAACGAAAUCUAAACAAAAAAACACAUCAGGUUAAAAAUACUAAAUGAAUACAAUUGUUUAUCAUUGUUUUGUCUUCAAUCCUGAGCUGGUGUUGUGUUUAUUUGUGACACUAAAUCAAUAACAUUUUUUAAUAAAUAAAAAAUUAUAAUACAGAUAUACUUAUUAAAGUUUAAAGUGAAAAGUAAAAAGUAAAAAUUGCUUUAGUUCAAAAGUAAAUGAAAAAUAUUUAUAUGGAUGGUGUCCUUAGUUCAAAUCUUAUAAUGGAUAAUUUUUUAUUGAUUUAUAAAUAUAUAAAAAGACUAAAACACCCUCAUAAUCAUAUAUCUUACUUUGCAAAUAAAAUUUUGAAUAUAUUGUUGAAUGGCUAAAUUGUAUGAGAAAUAAAAGCAAUAUUUAUCAUUCAAUAGAAUCCACUAUCAAUUUAAAAACAAGACAAAACCAAAUUAGUAAUAUUAUCAAGUUGAGUUUCAUGUCUUUGAAGCACAUCUAGAGCUGAUAUAACAAACGCUUAUGAAAUUGAGCUUGAUGCCAUUUUUUAGUAUCAAGAAUACAAAAUAUACCACCAAAUUUUCUUUUUCAAACUCAAUUCAAAAUUUUAUUACAUUUAAAUUAUUUUUCAAAACUCAAAUUAUAAAAAUAAAUUAUAUUUAGAAUUUUAUCUUUUCUUAUAAUGUAGAAGUUAUGUUAAGGAACAUAAGAGGUAAAAAAACAGAAAACAAAUGAUUUUGCUUAAUUUUUUUUUGUUCUAUAUUUCUUUCGAAGAAUGGAUAUUAGAUAUUUCGAUAUAGAUAAUAAAGAGAAAUUUUAGAGGGUUUAAAAAUAAUUAUCCCUCAUUUUAUUAAUUUUUGAAAUGUUUAUUUACUGUUAUUUAAUUUUAAAUUUUAUAAUGUUCUGAAAUUUUAAAACAAUUUCAAAUUUGGGUACAAUGAUAAUUUAAAUUUCGGCUAUUUCUAAAAACAGUAAACACCCCGUCAAUAAACCACAAUUUGGAUUUAAAAGUGUAACUUAUGAAGGAAUUUAUAUGUACUUGAAUAGAUUUAUUCACAUUAUUCACGUCUUACAAACAUCAUAUGUAAGAACAACUAUAUUUUUUUACAGGAUGCCGACUAGUAUAUUUUAUUUCAAGUUGUAACAUGUAAUUAGGCAUUCUUAUACCAUACGUUCCCAUUAUUAUGAUGCUGCUGCUGCUGAUGUUGUUGUUACAAUUGAGCACCAAGAUGACUGCAAAAAUUGUUAGUAAUGUCCAGAAUGAAUGGAAAGGACAUGGCAGAUUAGUGAAUUAUUACAGAUACAACUGCUGAGAAUCAAAUACCCAAAAUGCCAACUAUAAUGGCAGAAGCAAAGGAAAAGUAAAAAAAAGAUGGGAUUCCUUACUUAAUACUUCUGCCUUUCUACCCACAACAUUCUUUCUUCUUUCACAAAAUUUCAACCUACUUUUCUUUCCUUUGCUUCUUUCAUUACAUGCUUUUCUUUGCUUAAUAGUUCUGCCUUUCUAUCCACAACAUUCUUUCUUCUUCACUGUUUUUAUUUUGUUUUCAUCUCCAAGGUCUAUCACCAAAUUUCAAGCAUCCCGUUAAAGGUAAUUUUCUUUCAUUUGCUUCAUUCAUGACAUGCUUUUCUUUGCUUCAUUCAUGACUAUGCAAUGAUUGUUUUUUAUUAUCUGCUAGCUUUGUAAGAUAGUCAAGGAAGUCAACUUCAAUGCUUCAUUUUCAGUUCUAAUCUCUCAACACAUUUCAGCCACUAAGUCGGAUAAUAAGGUAAUGAUUUCCUCUACUGAUUAUCAACAGUUUUAGAUUUUAAGACAGGAUAGGAUGACCGGCAAACAUAAUCUAUCAUAGAUAGGAAUCUCAAACUGUUGAACAUUUAUUCCGUAAUGAACUGUUGCACACUUGAAUCUAGCAUUUUAUAUACAUUGAGAGGUUAACUCUGGUGACCAGAUUUUCAUCAUGUUUCUGUCUGCCACCUAUCCAUAGCUCCAUCUAGUAAAGGCCAUUGCAUUUAUGCUUCCUUUUCAUGCUUACACAAACAUAUAAAAAUUAUUCAAAAAUCCUAUACACUAACAUAUAUGAUUGCGUUGCAGGGGCAGAGCAAUGGAAUACGUAGAGCCCGGUGUUGGCGUUGCAAAUUGUCUUGGACCUCCUGUUUGUAAAUACUUGAAAUAUCACAGAAAGCUAAAUGAUUAUGUGAGAAACUUCGGGAGGAUCAGAGAUGAAUUUAAUUUUAAAAUGGAAGAUAUAGAGCUGCAAUUGAAAGUAGAUCUUCUUUCUCCUAGGGGAAAGAUACCAAAGAAGGGGGUUGAAAAUUGGUUGAAAGAUGUGAAAGAGAUGAUUGCGGAAGCACAGAAUGUGGAAAAUAAAGUCAGAAACGGGAGAUAUCUCUGUCGUGCUUGGAACGAAAAGCUGGUUGAUGAAAAGACUCGAGAAAUGAAGGAGUUUCUUGAUAAAGCUCCUAAUGCCUCUGAAGGUCUUGCCAUGGAUGGUCCAAGUGCUGGGUUGCCACUGCCAACAUCAGAACUAGUUGGGGAGGAAGCUGUCAGAAAAGAGAUUAGGGCAUGUUUGAUGCAAAAGGAGGUAAAAAAGAUUGGAGUUUAGGGGAUGGGCGGUGUGGGUAAAACCACGAUCAUGAAGCACAUCCACAAUGAUCUUUUGAAAGAACAAAGAUUCGAAAGAGUAAUCUGGGUUACCAUAUGAAAGGAGUUCAAUGUAAUGAAGAUACAAAAUAAUAUUGCAAGUGCAUUGGAGGCGAAGGAAUAUUUAGACAAAGAAGAGGACAAGCUCAGACGAGCAGCAAUCUUGUCAGAAUUGCUGAAGAAAGCAGGAAAGCAUGUUCUAAUCCUAGAUGAUGUGUGGGAUGAAGUCUCUCUAGAAGAAGUUGGGAUCCCUGAGCCGAGUGACAGCAAUGGCUGCAAGUUGGUGUUGACAACCCGUUCGGAGCAUGUCUGUAAGUAUAUGGGUUGCACGGUGAUAAAAGUGAGGCCCCUUUCAGCACAACAGGCAUUGACACUAUUCUUGAGUAAAGUUGGGCCUAACAUAGUGCAAAGUCAAACUAUAAUGCCUACGCUAAAGCUUGUUGUCAAGGAAUGUGCGGGUCUACCUCUUACAAUUACCGUCGUAGCUGGUACAUUGAAGGGAGAAGAGGACCCUCUUAUUUGGAAAAAUGCAUUCAGGGAAUUGAAAGAGAGAAUAGAAAAAGUGGAAGGUGUGGAAGCUAAAGUGAUAGAGCGUUUGAAAUUUAGCUUCGAUCACUUAAAGGACGAGAAAGUGAAAUCUUGUUUCUUACACUGCGCAUUAUAUCCCGAAGAUUUUGGAAUUGAAAAGGAUGAACUAAUUGAGUGCUGGAUUGACGAGGGAUUCAUAGAUGAUAUGGGUACAAGACAAGAAAUGAAUGACAAGGGUCAAGUUAUUUUGAAGAAGUUGGAAGAUAAUUGCUUGUUGGAAAAUGUCUCGAGUGAAAGAGUAAAAAUGCAUGAUGCAGAGAGAGACAUGGCAUCGAGUGAAAGAGUUAAAAUGCAUGAUGCAGUGAGAGACAUGGCAUUGUCGAUCACAAAAAUGAGUCCUCGAUAUAUGAUACAAGCAGGUUUGCAAUUAGAAGAGUUACCAGAAAAGAAACAAUGGAGUCCGGAUAUUGAGAAAGUUUCACUUAUGUAUAACUCCAUAUCAGAAAUUUCCUUAGACGUGCCGCCCACAAAAUGUCAACUGCUCACAACCUUGUUAUUGCAGCAUAACCCAAUAAAGAAGAUCCCAUAUUCUUUCUUCAUAAACAUGCCUUGUCUUUGUGUCCUCUAUUUGUCUUAUACGGAGAUCGAGAGUUUACCAAAUUCCAUCUCCGAAUUAAAGAACCUCACAACAUUGUUGCUUCGUGGUUGUUCUACAUUUAGAGAUCUGCCAUGUCUUUCGAUGCUUCAAGAAUUGAAGAAGUUGGAUCUUCGUGGGACUAAAAUUGAGGAAGUCCCUGAAGGAAUGGAUAUGCAGAUAAAGCUAAGAUAUCUUGAUCUUGGAGUGCACACUCUGAAAGAGAUACCCGCGGGACUUUUACCAAAACUCGUUCACCUUCAGCACUUGAGUUUUGAAGUGGACAAUGAAAAAACAAGUCUAAAAGCAGAGGAGAUGGAACCAUUGAAGAAGUUGGAGUGCUUUACCG